UAACCUUUAUCUUCUCAUAAGAACUCAAGUAUAAAUUUCUCUAUACUCUAUUGGUUUUAUCAUGCUUCAGAGUAGGUGUAAAUUGUUAGCACCAGGAAGGUGCACUAAGUGUAGGACAUAUAGCAAUCAUUUCCCAUGGGAUGCCUACUUAUUCUUUUGUAUCAUUGUGCAAGCACGCCAUCCAUAAUAAAAAUCUUUAUUCUCUUAUGUAAACUUUUUGGAAGAAAAAUGUCUUCCCAAAUAAAACCAUUAUUGCUUAGAGACUUUUGUCCACCCCACCAUCGUAUCAAUUGAGGUGUGGGUAGGUAACCGAGAAGUCUUCUAAGUUUUAUAUAAAAGAAGUAAUUUUCACUACUUUUGCAUGCACUCAAACAAGAACACACACAAUAACGCAACAUGAAAACUCUAAAGAAUGGUAAAACCAAAACACUGAUCCUAAAUAAGAUAAGGAAGUGAGAUAAAAAUGAACAACCGAGCCAAUUUGUUGAAGUCAAGGUAACUAAAGUAGUCACUGCAAUACAGAUAUUCCUAUUCAAUACAUAGAGACAAGCUUAUAUGGCCUUGUAGGCGUCUCUCACCUUCCUAUUCAAUACAGAUAAAUUAAUCUGUACAAAUUGGAAAUGGAUAUCACCAUUAUCGAAAAACUAAAAAGACAAUAGAUUAUGAAAUGAAAAGGGGAAUCCACGUGGGUGGGUGGGUGGGUGAGAAUGAGAUGCCUGCUUUUCUAUGUGGCCAGAAGAAUCGAAUGAACAGGCUUGUUUAUUACAUCAUGGAAGUGGGAGAAAAAAUAUUCAUUUAUGAUGAUGGUUGUGUUUGCCAACUUCUUUAGGAAAGCCACCACUACUGCUUCCUCAGAGACAUUACAAGUCAACGAAGAUGAGGUUGCAGUGGCAGUGGGGAAAACCAGUGAAAGUCCCACUCAACUAACUCGCACAAUGGACCAAGAAGAGUGUUCCAUUACCACAUAUAUCAGUAGACAACUCCAAUUUUUUUUCUUUUGAUAUUAAUAGCCAAUCAAGCCACCAAUAUGCGACAUUGGUUUUGCUCAACUACAAUGUUCUUGGGCUUAUAACUCACCAAGUGGGGAAAAUUUGUUGAAGUCAAGGUGACUAAAGUAGUCACUGCAAUAGCCACAAUACUAAAAUAAUACAACAAAGCAUUCAGUGGAAUGAGCAUUUGGACAGAAAGGGAUCACAUUAAAUUUAAAAGCAUUGACCACAUCUUCAAUUAUUAUUACUUUAUCUUUGGGAUGAUAUCACCAUAUAAAGAGCAUUUGAAGCUAACAAUGGACGAUAUCAGCAACUUUUCUGGGGAAAAUGGAGAUUUUUUUUUUUUUUUUUUAAAUUCCUCAUGUAUUUUUCUUACAUUUUUAUAUUAUCCAAAGACAGAAAAUUAAUUAGUCCUUUCAAGUUUUUUUUUUCUUUUUUAUUUAUUGGACAGAGCUAAACAGGAUUAACAUAAAAGAAAAUAACUUGACUUAUAAACAAAAGCAAGGGAGAUGCAAUGGCAAACACAAAGCAAUUUAGAAGGGGCAAGCGAGUAAAGAAACUAACAGUGAUAUAUCAUGAGUUGCCAUAAUUUGAAGCAACUUCCACUUCGGAAAGCCCAAGGCCUUUUAGCCAAUACAGUCAAAAGGGAAAAAUCCUCAUCAGAAUCAUUUGCAUCAUCGUGGCGGGCGGAAUCGAAAUGGCAUGUGGCAAGGUCAGGAUAACGUUUAACCAGAUACAGUGCUACAUCUGCAUAUUAUAAAAUUGUACAUGGGAAGACGACAGUAAUUCAUAUCAAGAAAGUAGAUAGGGGAUAGUAAAUAUAGCUUACCAUGAAACCCCACCAUUAGAGCUCUGCGCAAAAGUUCGAAUCCAGGCUUGUCUGCGAAAGGACUUGGAUCUACAUCAUCUCUGGUGACGGUUAAUAAAUAUAAAGUCAGCUCUUUAUGAGCACACCUAAGAGCGCUGUGAAGAGGCACUAAAAGUUGUAGUUGGCAGAUAUUGGGCAAGCUUGGGUUUUUGUUCACUAACAACUUGACUGCUUUUAUAUUGCCAGCACUUACAGCGUUGAAAAGGGCAGUGGCGCCAUCAGAAUCCUGCAGAGCCAGUUUAUCACUUGGCAUAAACUCAACCAACUUCUUCACGAAACCCAUUCUGGCCUCUCCUAACCCAACUGCUAUGUGAAGCACUGGGGAAUCAUCUGUUCCGAUCGGGGCGGACAAUGAUUGUGGAUCAUCCUCCAAUAUUUUUGAAGCACUUUCCCAGUCACCAUUGAGCACAGCUUGGUACAGUUCCAAGUAAUAGAUUAAACCUGCUUCAUAGAAUUCUGCAGUCACAAAGCCAAAAGAUGUAUAGGUCAGCCUAGAUUUCCCUGAUAUGUAUAUUUCUUCAACGUUCACAACAUCCUAAUACUAAAAUUAUUUUUUUAAAAAUAAAUCAUUUAAGUUAUAUUUGGUUCUUAGAAAAUUUGACAAAAAUUACAAGGAAAAGAAAGUAAAUUGAAAAAAUUGAAGGUAAGAAAAAGUGAAAUAAAAUACAUCUAAAAUCAAUAAAUUAAUUAUUUUUAUAUGCUACUCAUUUCACUUAUUUUAACUAUUCAAUAUAAAAAUUAAAUAAUUUAAAAUUUCAUAAAUUUAUAACUAAUUUAAUUAUAUUUGAUUUUCUUAAAUAUUUUUGUGGAUACAACCAAAUAUGAUAAAAUCAUUUUCCUUAAUAUCGUUUCUUUGCUAAUUAUUUUCUUGGACUUCUUUGUUUACCUCUAAUCAACAUCUUUAUAUCUUUCAAUAAUAGUUUGAACCUCCAAUAAACUAAUUUCAAUAAAAUUUAAUUUAGUUUCAUUUGUUUUUUUAACAGCAGGUUGUAAAACACUUCUACUUGUAUGCUAAUUAUGCCCAAAAGUUGCAGAAGGACCUCAAGCGGAAAUGGACAUGAACAUAGUUUUUAGCAUCUUACCGGAGCUGCUAAUCCUUUGCAAAGAUGAAGGGGAAGAGACUGGAGCAUAUUCAUCAGCAUUCUGCGCCAUAUUGAUGCUACUACGGUUAGGAUUGUUUGGGCUGUCAUCAAUUACCGAGAUGGUAAUGAAGAGGAAGCCACUGCAGUAAACUCCUCAUCAUGCUCAGCAAUGUCGAUGUUACUGUUUUUAGGACUGUUUGCGCUGUUGUCAUUUCUAGGACGUAGUGGAGAAGAAGAAGCCAUUACAACAAAUUCCUUAUCGUUCUAUAGUAUUGCCAUGUUUAGCGAAGUUAUUCUAAUGUGUAACAGAAAACCUAAACAAAAUCUGCAGUUGACAAAGGUCAAAAUUAACUUACCUCGCAGAUGGAAGAUUAUAUUUAACUAUAUCAAGGCAGAGAAGAUACUCUCAUCCAAAGAGAAACAACAGCAGCCCUUUUUCCCACUGUCUUCAAAAGAUACAGGAACCAUUGAAGCAUAAGAGGUGCAAUGAUAAAGUCUUCCAAGUCAACUUUAUUUAGUUGAGUAUUGGGUAAGGAGUAGAUAGCGUUGAAAAGUUUUGAUAAUUUUUGUUGCGGAGAAAACGAUGUUUUAUAUCCCUUUAUUUCUAUCAGAUAUUACAAUUUUUAUCACUUGUUUAUAAAAUAAAAGAUAACGAAAUAUUUAACAUUCUUCAAUAGUAAAAACAUGUAUCGAAUAUAAAAAAAUUCUCACAAGUGCUGCAAUUAACAUUUUUUUUCUUCAAUAAUAUGUAUAAUAUAUACGAUAUGAUGUAUUAUUUCUACUUUAAGUUUUGUUUGGAUUUAUUUUUUAUUUUUUAUAUAUAAAAAUAAAUUAUAUUUUAAAAUUUAUAUGUGAUAUAAAAAAGUUAUUAUUUUUAAGUAUUUGAUAUAAUACAUUUAUAUAUUUAUUAAAUUAUGACAAUAAAUGAAAAUAAAGUGGAGAGGACGAUGUAGGUUGGCAAUCCUUUCUGAAGUGAAUGCAGUGCAACAAAAGAGAAGGUACCAUUAACUUGAAUGCGAGAAGGGUGAUUGAUCGAUCAAUCUGUACGUGUCCUUCUUGAAAGGGACCAGAUUCUAUGGGGUAGGUUAAGGAUUAAUGUGGGUGCCUGUAGCAUGAAAGCGGAAGGAAUUAAUCCUGUGCACCACACAUUGCUAUGAUCGUUUGCAAUAACCAAUUAUAUAAAAUCUAUUGAAAUAUUUUAUAUAAUUAACUUUUUGGAAUUUUUUUAUCAAGUUGUAAAAUAAAGAAAAUUUAGGAAAAAAUAUUUUUGUAAAAUGAUAAAAUUUUACAAAAAUGAUUAAUGUGGGUGCCUAUAGCAUGAAAGUGAAAGGAAUUUUGGGUCACCAAGGCGCCUCCCAUAAAAAUAUAUCUUUUAGGUCCUUUUAAAACCUAUAUUUAGUAUCCUCUUUCCCAUCACGUGAGUGUCCUGUCAUCCUCCCAUAAAAAUAAAAUUUUAAUUAAUAAUUAAAAUUUUAAUUUUAAAAUAAAAUUAUAAUUAUUAAUUAAGAUUUCGAUUAAAAAAUAAAGCACUAAUCGAUAAUUAAAACUUUAUUUUUAGCUAAAAUUUUAAUUGAUAAAUAAAAUUUUGGGUUAAUAGUUGUUCGUAAAAAAGAUUUAUAUUAUUUCUACGGGCAAGUUGAACAUAGACUUAAAUUUCACUUAGAAUGAUAAACAUUCAUGGAGCCAAAAUGUAAAUCCGCACUCUUGGACAUAAUAUUAUUGAGCCAUUGGUUACCGAAAAUUACUCUAAGCUAUCAUACCCACCUUUUAGGCCAAUAAAAUUAAGAACCAUGGCAAGGAAAUUUGAAAAAAAAAAAAAACAAUUCUCCAGGUUUAGCAUGGUUGCCGAGGGAAUUAAUCUUUUGCACCACACAUUGCUAUGAUCGUUUGCAAUAACCAAUUAUAUAAAAUCUGUUGAAAUAUUUUAUAUAAUUAACUUUUUGGAAUUUUUUUUAUCAAGUAGUAAAAUAAAGAAAAUUUAGGAAAAAUAUUUUUGUAAAAAGAUAAAAUUUUACAAAAAUGAUAAAUUUUUGUAAAAUAUAGAAAAGGAUACAAGGCUAUUAAUUCAUAAUUGUAUGAUAACCUUUUAGUAUUUCAAUCUUUGAAUGUUUUUGGAGAUUAUUUCCAUAAAUUCCACAUUCCAAAAACAAUGAUAACCUUUACACAAUAUUAUUGUUAUUUAAAGUGGGAAAAAAAUUAUAAAAAAAAAUUUCAAAAAAAUUAGAGAUUACAAAGAAUACAAGGAUACGAAGAAUGUGAGGAUUAUCAUAUUUUUUGUACCCUCCUCACAUUCUUCAUGCCCCAAACCAUUUGAAUAUUUUAAUCUUUUAAUUUUUCCAAACAUUAUUUACUUCAAUUGCAAGUGUAAUUAGCGUUUUUACACAAUACAUUGUCAAAUGAAGUAAAAAAGAAAUUCAAAAUUUAAAUUUUCAAAAAAUUUACAGGGUACAAAAAUGUGAAGAGGCUACGAAGAAUGUGAAGAGCCUCACAUUUCUCGUACCAUCCUCACAUUCUUCGUACCUAUUGUAAUUUUUAAAUUUUUUAAUCUUUCAAUUUUUUCAAACAUUAUUUGCAUCAAUUUCAAGUGUAAUUAAUAUUUUUACCCAAUAUUAUCAUCAAGUGAUGUGAAGAAAAACUUAAAAUUAAAAAAUUUUAGAGGGUACAAAAAAUAUGAGAGAGGAGGGUGUGAGAAAUGUAAAAAGGAUAUGAGAAAUGUGAGGGUACAAGAAAUGAAAAAAAAGAAAGAAAAAAAAAAUCUCAUACCCUUCUCACUUUCUUCGUACCUCUACAAAUUUUUUAAUAUUUUAAUCUUUUAAAUUUUUUGAACAUUAUUUGCUUCAAUUUCAAGUGUAAUUAGUCUUUUUACAAUAUAUUAUUGUCAAGUCAAUUAAAAAAAAUUAAAACAAUUUAGAGGGUACAACAAAUGUGAGGAGGGUGUGAGAAAUGUGAAUAGGGUAUGAGAAAUAUAAGGGUACAAGAAAUGAAAAAAAAUAAUUUCUCAUACCCUCUUCACAUUUCUUGUACUCUCCUCACAUUCUUUGUAUUUUCACCAAUUUUUUAAUAUUUUAAAUUUUUUUCAAAUAUUAUUUGCUUCAAUUUCAACAAAAUUCUCAUAUUUUUUGUACCCCACCAAUUUUGUAAUAUUUUAAUAUUUUUAACAUUAUUUGUUUCAAUUUCAAGUGUAUUUAGUCUUUUUACAUGCACAAUAUUAUUGUCGAGUGAUAUGAAAAAGAAAAACAUAAAAUUAAAAUUUUCAAAAAAAUUAAAGGGUACAAAAAAUGUGAGAAGGGUAUAAAGAAUGUGAAGAGGGUGCAUGAAAUGUGAGGGUAUAAGAAAUGAAAAAACAAAAUUCUCAUCCCCUCCUCAUAUUCUUUGUACCUUCACCAACUUUUGAAUAUUUUAAUCUUUUAAUUUUAACUCAUCUAGCCCUUAUAAAUCAUGUCAUUAAGGAAUAUGAGCUCAAAGUAAGGACCAUUGGGAUCCAUAGGAGUAUUGGCUCCCUUAGAAUCAAAUUCUUAAAUUGAUUCAACAUCCCACUAUAGAGAGUCAACUAUACUUUAAUAUCCUAUGUAUAUUACAACAAGACACCAAGUACUUGGGUUUAUGAUCUACUAUCUAUUGCAUGCAAACUCCCCAUGAACCGAUGUUCAUAAUCUAAUAAGGUAGUGUUGUCACCUAUCAAGAUUACCCCUCAAAUCCUUUAGUUACAGAUCACACUUUUUAUGUGAUCAAAUGACAUACUCUACCUCUAAGAAGCAUAUGUCAAAUUCCACUGAAGGAAUUACUAUGGCCACUGAUGCGACUCAUGGUAGCUUAGCUUUAAAGGCGUAUCAACAAAAUUUAUACCUUAAAUACUAUUACUAAAGUAGCCAAGCUACUAUAGCAUAGUGGUUCUAGGAUCGUUCACUGGGAAGGGUUUUCGCAAACACAAUUGAUAUUCAAAUUAGGAAAAUAGGUGAUUUUCUUAUGGAUGUUAGCUUUAAAAGAGAAUGUAAAUGUUUUAGAAAGAUUUAAACUAAUCUAAGCUAACAUUAAAGACUAAAAUGAAAGGGUGUAAAAACAAGUUUCUCAAAGAUAGGAUAGCUAUGCUCUGGCUCUUAUGCAAAUUGGAAAUCUCAGGAUAGGCUCCUCGCGUUGGGGUUGCAACUAUGGUGAUGCUUGCUUCCCGAACCGGUAUGGAUUUAGCAAAUCAAGUUUUAAUCCUUUAAAAUAGCAAAACAGAUGGUAGUGAAUUUCAUAAAUGGUUAUUCACCUUAGACUUCCUUUGAAUGGCUCGUAAGAGAUAACUAAUGGUCUAAAGCCAAAAGCUUACCAAAUAUUGGCAACUCAAAGUCAUUCCNNNNNNNNNNNNNNNNNNNNNNNNNNNNNNNNNNNNNNNNNNNNNNNNNNNNNNNNNNNNNNNNNNNNNNNNNNNNNNNNNNNNNNNNNNNNNNNNNNNNUGCUCUGGCUCUUAUGCAAAUUGGAAAUCUCAGGAUAGGCUCCUCGCGUUGGGGUUGCAACUAUGGUGAUGCUUGCUUCCCGAACCGGUAUGGAUUUAGCAAAUCAAGUUUUAAUCCUUUAAAAUAGCAAAACAGAUGGUAGUGAAUUUCAUAAAUGGUUAUUCACCUUAGACUUCCUUUGAAUGGCUCGUAAGAGAUAACUAAUGGUCUAAAGCCAAAAGCUUACCAAAUAUUGGCAACUCAAAGUCAUUCCAGGUGAUAAACUCACCUUUCAAUGGCCAUUGAAAUUGGUUCUAACUGAUUAAUGCAAAACUUGGAAUUGAAAACCUCACCUUCCAAUAGCUCGUAGGAGAUAACUAAUGGAUAGAAAUCCAAAAGCUUAUCAAGUAUUGGCCGUUGGAAGUUGUCAAAAGGAAAUAAAAACCAAACUUUGCAUUAAUGAACCAUUAAUGAAAAACCAUCUACCUUACCUUCCGGGUGCGAGAAAUUUCCAUGGGAUUGCAUCCAAGCCAUCACAUAACAUCCAUACUUUGAGAAACUAAAAGUUUUAGCCAAUCAUCCUUUGAGGAAAAGCCCUCAGAGGCUGUUUGGCUACUAAGAAAAUAGAAAUGGGGAAGAACAGGAGAAGAGAGAAAAACAGAGCAAGGCUCUGUAUAUUCUAUAUAUUGAUCGAUAUCUAUUACAAUGGAUGCAAGGGAAUAUAUAUAGAGAAGUUUUUCCAACCUUCCUAACUAAGAAAUUACAUGAGUGGUGGAUUACAAGGAGAAGAAUGGAAAUUUAUACAAAAAUAUCCAAAAGAAAAGAUCUCGUGUGGAGUCGGCAGAAACAGGGGAAAAUUCGCACCAUGCAAGGGGGUGUGCGAAUUUGGAAGGUGUUGUGCGAAAAUUUCGCACACCCCUGGAGCAGUUGUCUUCCAAAGGCCAUAUCUUCCUCAUUUCAGCUCCAAAUUGUACACGGUUUGAAGCGUUGGAUUCUUGACUUCCUGAGCUUUGAAACGGUAUAUAGAAUGUAAAAAAUGGACUUCGGGAAGUGCUCCAAAAGUGCCAAAGAAGACUGCAGCUGCUGUCCUCUGUUUUCCUCCUUGCUUCUUUUUGCUUCUCUUUGCUUCUCUCCAUUGUUCUUUCCUUGCAUACUUUGAACGAAUUUGGCAAAGGGCUAUGGAGCUCCAAAGCUUGGUUCUUCAUGAAUUUGAGCUUCCAAAAGCUUUGCCAUAACUUGUCCAAGUAGCUCCUCUAUCAUUUGGCAUGCUUGAAUUGAUUCAUAAGCUGAUAUAAACAUGUAAACUUGCCACAAAAUGGUUAAAACCAAUUACUAAGGACCUUAAUGAAUUAAUUGGGUUAAAUGAAUAUGAUUACUACUCAAAGGUGCUUAAAACCAUUAUAAUUAGGUCUACAAAAUAGCACUUUUUGGUAGUAAUCAGCCACUGAUUUCAUGAUCACAUGCCCUCUGGAUCACCUAAUGGGACAUAUUGUCUCAAUCCUAUGAGAUAUCAUGGUGCCUCUAUUAAGAAUACCUAUUGUCGUCAGCUUCCAUCAACAGUGACCCAAUUCAUAGGGAUAUAUGACCAUUUUAGUCACUCAUAGGUUGAAGUAUCUAUUAAUUUUGGCAUAGACUCAAUAUCCUCUAAGGUUGAGAGUCUAUACAGUAUAGUAGUUUAGUGAAUCAUGACAAUUGAUAGCCUUGCAUCAUGAUUCACCGCAGGUUCUAUUUAGUAUGCAUCACAUACACUAGUACUCUUCAUUGGAAACUCAUCCCAAUGGUCAAGACCAAUCAUCCCUCUAAUUAGGAGGUGGUGCACUAUAGUUUAUACUAGAUUGCCUAAAUCCAUGAACCAACUGUGGACAACUUAUCUACUUACAAGGAAUCCAUGACUUAUACUUCUAUGCAACUCCUAAUACACCCAAUCAUGUACAAUGUAAGAAACAUGGGUUGAAUGCUUAAAUCAAUGUCAAUACACUUGAGGGAUAACAAGGGGAUAGUUAAGUCUAACUUCGUUAUAUCAUGUCUUGCUUAGUUAAGUCUAACUUUGUUACAUCAUGUCUUGCUUAGUUAAAUCUAACUUUAUUACAUCAUGUCUUGCUUUUAGGGCUCAAUCCAAACAAACUCCUACUAGCCCCAAAAGUAUACUGGGUACUAUAGAAAAAAUCUAUUCUACAGUCACGUCACCUUUCUAUACUAUCCCACAACAAGGUAUCACUUGUUUUCUAUAUGUUCUCUCUUAUAGUGGUACUUUAGUUAUUUGGACUAUGCCACCGUCCUAUAUAACAAUAUCUUAGGCGAUAUAGCCAAUGGAAAUACCCAUAAGCUAAAAGGCUUCCUUUGUUGCUAAAGAAGUAACAAAAACCACUUAGAGUGUACACAUUCCCAGAGGUAGACUUGCGAGAGUCCUCAUUAGACUGAAAGUCCAAUUUCCCAGUACAAGGACUCACAAACAUAUAAUCCUUCAUUCUCUAAGGAUACUAGAGUAUAUGUUUGACAUUCGCUCAAAGCUUUAAUCAAGAAGUGAACUAAUAUUCACUCAUUAUUCUUAAGACAAAGCAAAUAUUUGGUUUAACACAUAGCAUUGUAUGCUUAAGGCUAUCCAUUGUAGAGGCCUUGGAUACCACCUUAAUAUGAUCUCUCUCCAAAAAUGUCCAAGGACAUUGAUCCUAAGAAAGAUAGCUCCAAAUCUAAAGAGUAACAAUCCCUUCUUGGAGUUUUACAUCAUAUACUUAACCAAAUGCUCAUCAAUGUAGAUGACAUGGCAUAAUUUUUCCUAUUCCUACAAUACUAAAAGACCUUAACCCUAAGAAUAUAUUGUGCAUUCCUCUAAAUUUUUAUCUAGAACUGAGUAAACAACUAGAUCUUGACAGAUGACAAUAUCCUUACAUCAUAUCCAAUGAGUAGAUUAUCAUCCACCUAUAAGAUCUUAGAGCAUUACUACACUUUCCUGUGCUUUCAUAUACACACAAGGCCCAUUGUUAUGAAAAUGUUUGGUUGUUAUAUCUCAUAAACGAGACACACUGCAAUAGAUAAGCGUAAUCUAAUAGAUUUGAGUAUGAUCACUGUUGAAAAGGUUUUCCAUAGUUGAAACAAAGUCUCAAACUAUAACCUUUAGCUAUAGUCUUAGCCACAUAAAACUCAAGCUUUCCAUCUACUUCUAUGUUCCUCUUAUGGACCAACUUACACCUAUGAGUUUUAUCCCUUUAGGUGCUUCUAUAGGAACCCAAACUAUUUUAGAAUACAAAGAUUCCAACUACCUCUUUAUAGCUCAUUACCUUAAGUGAGCAUAAACACUGCUCAAUGCUUCAUCAUAAUCUAUGAUAUAUAAACUUCCAUUACGAUGAGGCGUUGGUGUACUAGAAAUCAUAGAAACGGUAUGCCUUUAGCCCUCUAGAUCCUAAGAAUCCUAUGCAAUGUGGGACUAUCUUCUAAUUUAUCCUUCAAUCUAUAUCAUUCUUUAUCUUAUUCCUUAUCAUAUAGUUUUCAUAAAAAAAUUUGAUAUUUGUGUUAGCAAAUAUCUUUUAAUGAUCCUAACUAUAAAGGUAGUAACCCAAAAAUGCUCUUAUAUAUCCUAUAAACUGAUAUACCUCUUAAGAAAAAGGGUAACCACCUUUUUAAAAAGUAGUGAGUAAAAUAUACUUGAUACAUACCUUCAACCUUUUGCAUGUUUUACAUUUUGGUAUCUUAUAUUUGAAAUCCAUCAUUUUACCCAUUCAAACUUAUUAGAAAGCAACACUUCAAUAUCAUUUGCAAACCCUUUAUAAAUUAUAAAAAAUAUUUUUUAUUUUUAUUUUUUUUCCACAUUCUUGUUUGAACAUUGGUUUGAAUUUAGGUAAAACCAAAUUUGAAUUGAUAGCCUUAGGUAGUAUUUCCCAAACAUAUUUAUUUUAUUAUUUAUUAUCUAACCCUUCAUGUCUUGCAGAAGCACUUUACAAGUUAUCUAUGCUAUCCAGGUAUGCCCCCUAUCACCUACCUUCUAAAUUUUGUGAACAUGCUUGUCACUAUGAACCGCACCUAUGUUUGAUAGUGCAUGGGUGUCUUGCUAUAUUGUUUCAUUGUUCAAUUAUUUUUUAUAAACCGCAUGCUAGAUGAUAUGCUAUUUCAACUAACUUUGAUGUCUUGUGAUAGUGCUUAAGAAGCAAUCUAGGUAUGCACCCUAAAUCUUCUUUAAAAAAUUUGUGAUUGGUUCUUUUGUUUAGCAUGCUAUUUUUUAAAAUCACCUUAGUCAACCUAGGUACCCUCAAUCAACCAAUUAAUUUUCCCAAUCCCCUCAACUUAGCUAGUAGAGACCUUUUUAGGGCUUAGAUGGGUGCUACCUCUUAGAGGUAUCUUCCCAAUAGGUAACCUGAUCCCCGAACCUAGACUCAGGUUUUUCAAAGGUAUGCUUUUCCAAAAACUAUGGAGUCACUUCUUUAGGGUUUUGUUUCUUAUUUUAUUUUCCUUUUUAAAAUAAAAUAAAAUAAGUGGUGACUUCGACUUUUCCAAAAUUAAUUUUUUUCACCAAUAAAAGCGAGUCUCGUUGAUUGAGUGGGAGCGCAUGUGAAAAAUACGAGUCCACACUACGACUUUUGUAGUACUCCGGGUAUCGUCCUCAUGGACUAGCUUAUGGAAAUUGUCAAUACUAAAAUAAAUGAAUUGCUUUCGUUUAAAUCCUAAAGUGAAAAACACUAUGAGAAUAAUGUCAAACUAAGUAAAAGAAAAUAAAUUAAUAAAAAAAUGGAUAUUUAUUUUAAAUUCGAUUGAUUCAAGUUUGGGGUUUUCCACAAUCCAACAUAGGGUAUAGAAAUAGAAAUUAGAGAAAACAAGGGUCUUUUAAGUAAUAUGAUCUUAGGGUUUUGGGAUCCUUGGCCGCUCAUGAUCAAGUUGAGUUCUAUAACACAAAAUUGCAUCCGAAACUUAAUUUUUCCUUUUUAAAACAAAUUCCUAAAACCAUCAAAUGAAUGAUAUUGAUUACUAGUUUAAGAUUUGGCUUUUUAACCCUUCCUACUCCUUAUAGCUUUGUUUUGGGGUAAAUAACGAUAGAGAAGACGAGGAUAACUAAUGAUGAAAAUUUACCAAGAAUCACUAGUAUUGGGUAAUAACCUACCGUAUCAUUCCCUAAACUAACUCACAAGAAUAGGAUAAAAAAAUGAUAAAUUUUCACCCAACCAAUAAUUAAUCUCAUUGUUAUAAUAAUUUUACCCAUUGUCCCUAUAGGUUUCCUAACCAUUAGGUUUUCAUGCUUUAAGCCCCAAGUUGGCUCUUAACCUCUCAUGGGGGUGAUGUCACAUUCACAAUCCAUAAUAGGGUAAAAAUCCAUAAUUUGAAUCAAAAGAGCAUAAAACAAUAUGUUUAAUAAGGAAGAAAAAGAAAUCAAACCAAAGUUCCCGUCUUCUUCCACCUUCAAUGUCAAACUUUCUGGAAAAAAAAUAAAUCCAAGAUCUCUAAAGCCUAGAAGUAAGAGAGUUUAGAUAAUAACAUCAAUUACCUAAUCUGUGGCACACUCUCAUUGGCCACUUAUUACAAAAAUAAUUACCUAAAAAUAAUUAAAAAUAAUAAUAAAAUGGUGAUUUCUAGUCGUGUGGGGUCCAUUUAAGGUUGAUGGAGUGCCUUAGAUGCAAUUCCCUAGGUAGAGGAGGUGAAACAUCAAAGUGGCAGUGGGUGAAUUUGAAAUUGGUGUCAUUUCGAUGUGGAUUUCAAAUUCAUAAGUUGAAUUUCGAAAUCAUUUUGAAAUGACCCUUAAGCUUUGUGCAUUUGUUUUCAAAUGGCCAUAACUUCUUCAUUUUAGCUUUGAUUUGCACAUUGUUUGAAGUGUUGGACUCUUGACCUCCCAAGCUUUGAAAAAUAUGUGUAUGUAUAAAAUGGACUCUGAGAAAUGCUCCAAAUUUGUCCUCAAAGUCAAACUAUAUAUUACUAUUAGAUUUUGAGUUCUAAAUUUCCAUGCAACUGAAUCUUGCUUCAUGCCUCAUUUCCUAUGUUUUCUUGCCCCUUUUCUUACUCCAUUAUGGUCAUUUCUCAUCUUCUAAACUCAUGAUAUCCUCAUCUUGCCUUUCCUCAUGAUCCAUGAGUCCCGACUCACUUAUUUCCUCAUUUAACCCUUUCUUAAUCUUUCAAAAUCUAAAGUAAUUCAACUGGCACCCUUUUCUUCCCUUGAACUUGAGAUAAGUCUCCAAAGUACAAAUUAAACUCAUGGCUAGAGCCUUAGCAUUGAUUUAGGUCAAGUAGGGUGCUUUGAAUGUCCUUUGGUGCACAAAUCAUAUCGAAUAUGUGCCAUUAGAGCACACAUUUUGGUUCCAAUCAUCCCCCUCAACUAAACUUUGCUAAUCCCUAGCAAAUGAAAAGAGUAAAGAAAAAAGUUAAAAAUAUGUAAUGAGAUUCAUGAAACCAUAUUGACUCAACGUAGCAUGUUUCACACAAAAGAUACCCAAGUAGUCAAAUUUCCUAGAAUUAAGCAAAAUGAAACAAGAUAUGCAAUUUCUUAGUUUUCUCACCUUAUCUUCAUAUACUUAAAUGUGCAUCCAUGUUUAACAUUCCCCUUAGUGUCUCUUGAUUUUCCCAUGAUUGGUUCUUUCCACCUAAACCUCAUGUGCUUAAUUUUGGUGUCCCCUCAUAGUAUUUUUCUUAAGACUUUUCUUAAACUCAAACUUCAUCAUUCUUUAAGUUAAAGAGGGAGGAAAAUUUAUUUUGAUUUUUCUUUCUUAGUUUAGGAAAUCUCCUUCUAUAUGGCUUAAUAGGGAUCCAUCGGCAACUCCCAAGUUUUCACCCAAGGUACCAGGUAUUGAGAACCUUUAUAGGCCACUUACCUUUCAAGAAUCACCCUAGCUCAAGGUAGAACAAUGUUGAAUUUCCCAAACACUUAUUUAUUUAUUUAUUUAUUUUUUUCAAAACUGAGUUUAGCUUAUGUUACGAGCAAGAUACCGAUGACUCCUAACCAGUCGGUUUUCAGGCACCAGGGUUUGAAGACAUAAGGCCAUUACCCCCUCAAAUAAUUACUCAAGCUUAAAUCAGUUAUUUUCAAAAAAAAAAAUUCAUCAAUUUGUUUUUUUUUUUUUUAUUUCCUCAUUUUAUUGCUUAAGAACAACUCCUUUUAAGCUAAAGAAAUUAUCUUAAUCAAGAUACCAUAAGGGUAUAUGUGCUUUGUGUGUGCUUUGAGUCUUAAAUAGAAAAUAACCAUUAAAAAGAAAAAUGGAAGGUAUUCCAAGGAUUCAACCUAACUAUUUUUGCAUGUAAAGGUAUAUAAAGAUAAGGUAAGUGAACUAAUACUCUUGCUCUGACUAUAUUUUUUUCUAAAAUUCUAAAGAAAUAAUACUACUUAAAGCAUUCUCAUGCAAAAUAAACCAUGAGUUACCAAGGCAAAUCAAGAAUCUCAUUAACUAACCAAAGAUAACAUGCAAAAUUUUGAAAAAAAUUAGGGUUAGUAGAGCUUCCCCCCUCAACCUAAAUUACACAUUGCCCCCAAUGUCUAGGAUAUUGGGUCAAAAUAAAGGAAAAGUGAGAUGUUACCUCAAGAUCAUCGAGUGAGAAUUUUGUUAUGAGGACUUCAUAUAAACUAGUCUUGCACAAAAGCAACAAGAUUAGUGGCAAAAGUAUGCAUAGAGAAAAAUAUAAAUGGUGAGAAUCUAAAAGAGAGAAUAAGUGUAUCAAUAUGCUCCAAAAAUAAGAUAGUGUAUACAACCAUAUUGAAUAAGGUAUAUAUAGAAAUGAACAUCAAGCACCAAUGAUAGGAUCGACAACUCCAUCUAUUUCCUCCAACAUAGGGGUGGCUACUUGGUCAAUAUCCUCCAAUAUAGGUGUAGUAGCCUGAUUAGUGAUCUCCAUAAUAGGUGUAAUGGCCUUGCCAGCAGCCUGUACCAUAUGGGGGGUCAUCCCUAAUAAUGAUGUCCACACUAGUGUCAGUAGCAGAAAUGAAGAUCUCACCAUCGACCUGUCCUACAGAAUUUGGAAUAUCAAUAGUUGAGGUAAAAAUCUUAGUUGCGACAUCACCUGAUGUUUGUAAAAUAGGCAUGGUCUCAUGGGCUACUGUCAGUGCUCUAGUGUUUGAGCUAGAACUAAUCACCUCUGUACUGCCAUCAACCUCUAAGUUGGUAUCAGUUGGUAUAACCAAAUCUCCCCUCUGUUUAGAUGGAAUAACCAAAGAAGUGAGUUGUUGUACAGAAAAAGUGAGGUCAUCCAUCUGAGUCUCCAUCUUACUUAGGUGAGCAUCAAUGCAGGACUCCACAAACACAAAUAACUCCUAAAGUGUGUCUAGACGAGCCAUGAUUGAUAAGGUACUUGAGGUAGCAUCAGCAACCUAAGGAUAUGAAGGUUUAGGAAGAUCGAAGAUUGGUACUGUUGGUGUAGAAAUAUGAAUAGAAGGCUUUGGGGCACAUGAAAGAGGUGGUGGAAGCAUUGGUAAGCUCGUGUAAAAAAUAGGAAUAAGUGGGAGCGAGCUCUCUGUAUUAGAUGGAAGUGGAGCAACAUGCAAAGCUAUCUUUCACCUAAUGCCAUGGGUAGUCAACUGUGUCCCUGAAUGAAUUGUUCGAGCCCACUGAUUGAUAACAUAAGUGUGAGAAGCCAUGUGAUGAUAAGACUCAAGUAACUAGUGUCCACGAUGGAGCAAGUAAUAUGAGAGCAACCGAGGCAAAGGAAUGAGAUAUCUUUGAGCUGAAGCUAUCUGUUUCUCCUUGACCUUCUGAAAAAAAAAAUGAUGGUAUCCAUGAUGAGUUGAGGUGGACUCCACCACUCGCCUACGUACAUGUGAUAACACUCCCAUAAGACUAAACCAGAACGCUUUAUAGAGUGUCCACAACAAGUACCCCGAGGUGCUAGUAUACGUGUAAUCCUCGAAAAAGAUGGUCGUGACUAAGGUGCAAAUCGGGCUUCAGGAGGAGUCGAUGAUGGUAAACCAAAGGCUGCAACAAUGGUCUCAGUGGAAAUAAUAUCAGCUUAUCCUCUGGUAGAAAAAUGGAGCUCUCGGUACCCCCUUUCCAAUCCUCGAGAGUAGAGAAUAACUCUCAUACACUAGCAGUAUAAAAAUAUGGGAGAGGAUCCAUCAAUGUGAGAAAAUAAUAUCGGUCGAGGAGAUACAUGGACUAUGUAGUGGGCUCAUAAGUACUAAAUGCCUUUAUGUCAUAAGAGAACUCUUGACCAAACUCCCAUUGAGAUAGGUUCACCCUAGGGGCAUCAUCACAAACUCUUAGAGAUGGAGGACGUGUUGGGCUCAGAGUAGGGGGAGCUGGCCAUGGAUGUGGAAGAGUGGUAGUAGGCCUGGUGGUCUUAGCAGUGGUUGAGUGAUCAAAACGAGCCUUUGUCCUAGCCUUUACAUGCAUGGCUUUAGUUCUCUUAGUGGUUGGGCGGUCAAAACGAGCCUUCGUCCUGGCCUUUACAUGCUUGGCUUGACAAGUGAUAUGCCUCUCGAUAGACUCACUAAUCAUUACACCACUUUGACUUUGGACGAGAGGUUAGGCAUGCUUUUACCUUGGGGAAUGCUUAGUCUCAUUGUCACUUUGAAUAACAACUUUUCUUUUAUCUAAAAUAAAUGGCAAAAAAUAAACUAAACUUAAAAAAGGGAAAUAAAAACAAAAACAAAAAUUAAGGAUUAAGAAAACAAUCCAAAAAUAAAAUAAAAUUGGAUGCUCAUGAAAUUUAUGGAUUCAUGUGAAAAGGUGGUAAACCAUUCCUAAAUUGCGGGAGAACAUUCAAGGUGUCCAACAAUGAUGAAAACAUGAGUAUUUGAAGCCUUAGAUAUAAUUUAAAUAAUACCUAAGUUCAAAUAUCAUCUGACAAGGAAAUCAAAGUGAUUGGUUAGCUUAGGAGAAUGUGUAGAACAAACAGAAAAAUCUAUUAGAGAGUUUAAAAUGUUCUAGAGCUUAUAAAACAUAAAUUAGGCAACAAUUAUGCAAAACUCAUGGAAAAAUAAGAACUUUGCUCUCAAAGUAUUCUAAGAUGAUCAACAAGCCCUAAAAAUCAUGUAGAAAAAAUUUUAAAAUUUUUCUCUAAGUAUAAACCAAAAAUUCUAACACCCUGAAUUUCCAAGCAAAAUAAACGAAUCGUGUGUAACCAAAAUCAAUCUUAUUGUGCUACGCUCGGGUUUUCGGGGGUUGAGCUCCCCGUUGAGCUCGUGGGAGCCGGGGGGCAGCGCUCUCUAUAAUUUUUUUUUCAUUACAUUUAUUAUUUUUUAUUUAUCUAUCCAACUGAAACAAUAGAAACCCUAAACAAUGUUAAUGAGAGUUGGGUAACACUGCAUUUUAUAUAGAGCAACACUACACAAAGAAACCAUAAAGAUCAAGGAAAAUCCAUAAAAAAUAAACAAGAAAUGAGUAUGAGUGUAAUACGUACCUGGAAAGUGACAAACCCACAAUGAAACCCUAAAAUCGCCUUCAAUGGAAGUUAGGACGAUGAACAAGGGAAGAGGAAAUAAGGGGAAAAUGAGAUGAAAUGGUCUAGAAGUGGAAAUGACUAUUUGUAAAGGAGUUUGGGUGAUUUCAAAGUGAGCUCAAAAUAGAAAUUAAGUAUUUUGAAUUGGAUUUUUGGUUAAGAAAAGUCAUUUCGAAAUUUAACUAUUGAAUUCGAAAAUAACCUUAUUUUAUAUUCAUUAAUUAAUGGUAAAAAAAAUGCCCAUUUUAAAAUGUAACCAUUGGAUUCGAAAACUACCUUAUUUCGAAAUGGCUCACUAUAUAAAACAAAAACAUUUCAAACACCUCAUUUAGAAAUGAAAAAAAAAAAUCAUUUCUAAAUUGGGCAAAUUUUGAAUUCACCUUCUAAAGUUAAAAAAUCUCAAUUCUAAAGCAAAAGUUUCAAUUUUGAAAAGCCCACCAUUUUGAAUUUGCUAAAUGUAGCCUCAAUACAGUGUAAAAAAACCCGUUUAAAAAUUCCACUAAUGAUUUUGAAAAUAGCUCCAUUUUGAAAUGGCUCACUAUUGAUUCCAACUUUUAUUUCGAAAUUCAAAAUUCAUUGUAUUUCGAACUCAUUGUUUGUGAGUUCAAAACACCUAUUUCGACAUUUACUAGUUAUUUCAAAAUUAAUAUCAAUUCGAACACACUUUCUAUAGAUUUAAAAUUGCAAUUCCAAGACAAAAAUUUUGAAUUCGAAAGGAUCAUAAUAUUGAAAUCACCCAUUACUGGUCUCCAAAAGUGUCAUCUCCAUUUGAGAUUUCAAAUUCAAAAAAAAAAGAAAAGGAAUUUUGAAUUCAUCCACUAUACCUUUAACCUUUUAUCAUAAAAAUUUAGGAUUUCUCUCCCAAGGGCUACUCAGUUUUGUAUUUCAUCCUUUGUUUUCAAAGUUCACCAAUGAUCCUCACAAGUAAAUUUUUGGGUGACCUGUUGUCUUAAAUAUAGAUCAACAUACCUAUAAAAGCUUUGUCACCUUGAACACAUGUGAGGCUUACCAUUUCACUCCCUUGAAGUUCACAUUUACCUAUAUCACUCGGAUGUUUGCAAGCUAAGUUGCUACAACUCAUAAACUCAUUAGUAAGUUAAAAACAACUAAAAAAAAUGCUAACCAUAUUGCUAAUGACUAAUUGGAAAUGCAAAACUAAACAAAGGAAAAUAAAUAAUAAAAUAAACUAAAACAAAAUAAAAGAGAAAUUAAAUAAAUAAAAGUUUUACCUAAAUUUAUUUUUUACCUACUAGAUUUUCAAAAAAUACUUCAACCCUUUUAAACAUUCCCAUAAAUAAAAAUGGAGAUUCUCCUCUUGUGUCACAAAUCUUUCAAUGAAAUGCUUUAAGCGUUGAUCAUUAACUUUGAAUUCAUUACCAGUCUUCAGAUUUUGAAUAGUCACAGUGCCAUAAGGGAAGACUUCCUUUACCACAUAAGGGCUAUUCCACCUUGACCUAAGCUUUCCUGGAAAAAUGUGAAGCUUGGAGUCGUACAACAACACCUUUUCACCUUGCUUGAACUCCAUUCAUAAAAUAAGUUUGUCAUGGUAGAUUUUGUGUUUUUUCCCUUGCAUUACGUAAAUAUUCAUAACUCUAAUUUUGAUAUGCCUCAAGUUCAUUAAGAUCAUAUUUCCUUUUAGCUCCAGUUUGAUCCAAAUCAAAGUUCAUCUUCUUUAUAGCCCAAUAUGCACGAUGUUCAAGCUCUAUAGGCAAAUGACAUGAUUUACCAUAAACAAUCUGAUUCGGUGACAUGCCAAAUCCAGUCUUAUAGGUUGUCAUAUAUGCCUGAAGUACAUCACUCAACUUGGUAGACCAAUCUUUUCUUGUAGUAUUGACUACUUUGGUGAGGAUUCUCUUAAUCUCUCGAUUUGCUAGCUCAAUUUGCCCAACGUUUGAGAGUGAUAUGGGGUGGACACUUUAUGCCUCACUCCAUAUUUCUGCAAAAGAGUGGAAAAGGGCUUGUUACAAAAGUGUGAACCUCCAUCAUUAAUGAUUUCUCUCAAAAUGUCAAACCUAGAGAAAAUAUUCUCCUUUAAAAAUUUGAGUACCAAUUUAUAAUCAUUGCUCUUGCAUGCCACUGCUUCUACCCAUUUAGAAACAUAACCCAUUCUCACCAAAAUAUAGAGAUUACCAAAAGAAAGAGGGAAUGGUCCCAUAAACUUAAGACCCCAACAAUCAAAUACCUCAACAACACAAAUAUAAUUUUGUGGCAUUUGAUACCUUGUGUUGAUUUUCCCCAAUUGUUGACAUUGUGGACAACUUCUAUAGUGAGUGUUACAAUCCUUGAAUAUAGUUGGCCAAUAGAAUCAACUUUGUAGAAUGUUUGCUAAAGUCUUCAUUGGAGCAAAAUGACCUCCACAAGCUCCCUCAUGGCACAUUCAUAAUAUGUUUUGUUGUUCAUCCUUUGAAACACAUCUCUGAAUAAUUUGAUUUGGGCAAAACUUAUACAAAUAUGGAUCAUCUCAAGUAUAGUGUUUUGCUCAUGAAAGAAAAUACUUUUUCAUCUCCAUGUUCCAUUUUGAGAAAAGCUCUCUUGUUGCCAAGUAGUUGACUAUAUUUGCGAACCAAGGCAACCUCUCCACUACACAAAGUGCAUCAUCAAGAAACUCAUCAUUAAUCUAUGCUUCCUCGAAAUGUGACUCUACUUUAACUCGGGAGAGAUGAUCAGUAACCACAUUCUCUACCCCUUGCUUAUCCUUUAUUUGAAUGUUAAAUUCUUGAAGAAGAAGGAUCCAUAUAAUAAGUCUUGUUUUGACGUCCUUUUUGUUAAGUAGAUAUUUCAAGGCCGAAUGAUUAGUAAAAAUUACUAUUGAAGUUCCCAAAAGGUAGUUCCUAAAUUUAUCAAUUGCGAACACCACUACAAAGAGCUCUUUUAUAGUAGUUGUGUAGUUCUUCUGAGCAUCAUUAAGGGUCUUACUAGCAUAGUACACCACAUAUGGUUUUCCAUCCUCCAUUUGACCUAGUACGACUCCCACUACAUAAUCACUGGCAUCACACAUUAACUUAAAUGGAAGAGACCAAUUGGGAGGUCUCAUAAUUGGUGCGGUAGUGAGUAGUGACUUUAGCCUCUCAAAAGCUUCUUGGCAUGCUUUACUCCAUAUGAAUUCUGCAUCCUUAAGUAAUAAAGCACAAAGAGGUUGAGAGAUUUUUUAGAAGUCGUGUAUGAACCUUCUAUAAAAAUCUACAUGCCCCAAAAAUUAUCUCACCCCAUUAUCAGUAUUGGGGGAAGGUAGCUUUGAGAUGAGCUCAAUUUUAGUUGGAUCUACCUGAAUGCCUUCUCUAGAGAUGAUAUGACCAAGUACUAUCCCUGAGGUUGACAUGAAGUGACACUUCUCCCAAUUUAGGACCAAGUCCUUCUCAAUGCACCUUUUCAAAACUUUUUUCAAAUUUAAGAGACAAUUGUCAAAGGUCUUCCCAUAAACUAUCAAAUCAUCCAUGAAAGCUUCCAUGAUUCUCUCUACCAUUUCAUUGAAGAUAUUGAGCAUACACCUUUGAAAGGUGGUCGGCACAUUACAAAGACCAAAAGGCAUACACUUAUAAGCAUAGAUACCAAAUGGGCAUGUGAAUGUGGUUUUCUCCUGAUCCUCCAAUGCAAUGGCAAUUUGAAAGUAGCCCGAAUAACCAUCCAAUAAGCAAUAAUAGUCAUGACCAACUAGCUUCUCCAAAAAUGACCAACUACUUUCUCCAAAACCUGAUCUAAUAAAGGUAAUGGGAAAUGAUAUUUCUUGGUGACUGCAUUCAACUUCCUAAAAUAAAUGCAUACUUGCCAACCUGUAGUCAACCUUGUAGAAAUGAGCUCUCCUUCAUCAUUCUUCACUACAGUUAUCCCACUUUUCUUGCGUACUACUUGAGUAGGGCUCGCCAAACUACUAUCGGAGAUAGGAUAUAUAAUACUUGCAUCUAAAAGCUUCAAUACCUCAUUUCUGGCCCCAUCUUGCAUUAGGGGAUUUGGCCUUCUUUGUGGUUGCCUUAUUGGUUUUGCAUUCUCUUCCAAAUAAAUAUGAUGCAUGCAAAUCAUGGGAUUUAUCCCUUUCAAAUCUAAAAUAAACCAACCAAUCACUCUUUUCUUCUCUUUAAGCACUUUUAAAAUUUUGAUUUCUUGCUCUUCAGUUAAUGUAGUUGAAAUGACCAAAGGUUUUUCUUCAUUUUCCUCUAAAUAAACAUACUUUAAACCAUGUGGUAGGGGCUUUAACUCUGGUUUGUUGAUCACAACCUUCCCAUUUUUUAUUUCUUCAUUAUUUUCAACACUGUUCAAAGACUGAAUGGUAUUUUUUUUUCCACUUUGUAACAACUUCAACACGUUCUUCCUUAAUGAUUGUAGAGAAAAAAUCAUCUAUAUUUUCUUCCAUGAACUUUUCUGUGUUUUCUUGCACCAAGGCCUCUAUAAGGCAUGCUUCCUCAUCCUCCGCAUCAUCAUGGUCCAUUAGUUGCUUGCAUAAAUUGAAGACAUUCAUUUCCACUGUCAUGUUCCCAAAAGAUAAUUACAUCAAUCCAUUCCAAUAGUUAAUGAGAGCAUUGGUUGUUGCAAGGAAGGGUCUCCCAAGAAUAAUUGGAACAGAAUUCACACAUUUUUUCAACGGUUCUGUAUCUAACACCACAAAGUCCAAUGGGUAGUAGAACUUUUCAACUUGCACCAAGACAUCUUCGACUACUCCUUUGAGUACUUAAAUUGAACAGUCUGCUAAAGAGAGUGUAAUGGUAGUAGCCUUAAGCUCUCCCAAUAAUCCCAAUUUCUUAUAGAUUGAAUAUGGAAGCAAGUUUACACUAGCUCCCAAAUCUAACAAAGCCCUUUCCAUGAAUAAGUCUCUAAUCUGGACUGAGAUGGUAAAACAUCCUGGAUCUUUGUACUUCACCAUUGCCUUAUUCUCAAUGAUGGCAUUGACUUGCUCGGUGAGGAAUGCUUUCUUGCUUAAUUUAAUCCUUAUCUUCAUAGUGCAUAAGUCAUUAAGGAACUUUACAUAAGAAAGCACUUGCUUGAUCAUAUCAAGGAAUGGAAUGUUGAACUUCACUUGCUUCAAAACUUCCAAAAUCUCCAAAGUCUUAUCCCCCACUUUGUGUCUGCGCAUUGAUGAAGGGAAAGAGAAAUGAUUGAAACACUCUUUUCAUCUUUGCUCACAAUGAAUUUCUGAUAUUUUUCACUCUUUCUCACUUCUAGCAUUUUUCUCCGCGGUUGGUUCAUUUCUAGCAGGAAUAUCUUCACUUAUUGCUAACUUGGGCCUUUCAUAUUCUUUCCCAUUUCUAAGUGUGAUAAAUGCAUUGCAAUCUUCCUUUUGCACUUCAGGAACUUCAUUUACUCAUCUUAGAUUUUUCUAUGGUUGAGUUGUGAACUUUCUUUUCUCUUGAGGUAAGCCUGCAGCAAGUUGGCGUUUGAAUAUCUUCUAGUUCUUAAGAUGUUUGAGCAUUUAUCUUAUUUUGAUCCUCAUUACGCUUGUCUUGCUUUUAUAUAAACUCUCUCAUCGUAUCUUCUAGGCUUGAGUUAAAUGAUGAGGUCUGGGGUUGCUGUUGAAAAUUUUGGGAUGGCAUACCUUGUGGUUGAAAACCUUGCUACCCAUUAGUUUGAUUACCCUAAAAUCGAUUUCCUUGCUGCUGAAAUUGGCCAUUGUUACCUCAUCUCCAUGAUGGAUUUGGAUAAUUCCUCCAACUCGGAUUAUAAGUGUUGGAAUAUGAAGAAUUGCUUAAAUAUUGCUUGUAUGUCCUUAAGGAAUUGGCUUGCUUUGAAAACAUGUUUUGCACUACAAGUAGAGUGGAACAAGAUUGCACACCAUGUUCCAUAGACUUACAUAUCAAGAACGGUUGAGUUAUUCCCUCAUUGACUCUUUGUACCUCUUAACCUCCCUUAGCUUCCAAAUCAUCCAACCUUCUCAUAAUGGUUACAAACUUGACUUGGACAUCUAAACUCUCUGGUAAGGUAUACACUCCAUUAGCUCUUGCCCUAUUCAUUGUUCUAUCUCUAGAUGUUUCCUUGACGAUUGGUUCUUCCUAACUUCUAGAUACCUCAACAACAUAAUCAAGGAAUUGAAAUGUUUCAUCAAGGUUUUUAUUCAUGAAAUCUCCUCCACGGGGGUGAUGUCAUAUUCACAAUCCAUAAUUUGGUAAAAAUCCAUAAUUUGAAUCAAAAGAACCUAAAACAAUAUAUUUAAUAAAGAAAAGAAAGAAAACAAACCAAAGUUCUCGUCUUCUUCCACCUUCAAUGUCAAACUCUCCAAAAAAAAAAAAAAAAUUCCAAGAUCCCUAAAACCUAGAACUAAGAGAGUUUAUAUAAUAUCAUCAAUUACCUAACAUGUGAAACACUCUCAUUGGCCCCUUAUUGCAAAAAUAAUUACCUAAAAAUGAUUAAAAAAAUAAUAAAAUAGUGAUUUCUAGUCACGUGGGGUCCAUUUAGGGCGGAUGGAGUGCCCUAAAUGCUAUUCCCGAGGUAAAGGAGGUGAAACAUCAAAGUGGCAGUGGGUGAAUUUGAAAUUGGUGUCAUUUCGAUGUGGAUUUCGAAUUCAUAAGUUAAAUUUCGAAAUCAUUUGAAAUGACCCUUAAACUUUGUGCAGUUGUUUUCAAAUAGCCAUAACUUCUUCAUUUCAACUCCGAUUUGCACACUGUUUGAAGCGUUGGACUCGUAACCUCCCAAGAAACAAUAUAUUUUAUAUAUAAAAAGGACUUCAAGAAGUGCUCCAAAUUUGUUCUCAAAGUUAAAGUAUAUAUUACCAUUAGAUUUUUUAGUUCUAAAUUUCCAUGUAGCUGAAUCUUGCUUCAUGCCUCAUUUCCUAUGUUUUCUUGCCUUCUUUCUUACUCCAUAAUGGUCAUGUAGGCCCUCAAUUUUGUCCCUUUAGCACAUGUCUUUAAAAUUCGUUUUCAAUGCUCCACAAUAGUUCUUUGGUGGCCCAUAGCUACUCAUACCACUUACCUUUUUUUUGAGUCACCUCGGAGACUUUGGUUGAGGGAUUAUUUGAUCCCUUAUUGUGACCCUUGGCAGUUUUGAUUUAGAUUUAGGUUUUUCUUGCUUUUUUUAGGAUAGCUUUUAGAUACACUUGGCCCAUUAGGCACCACCUUAGGCCCACUUAGUCUCACCUUAGGCCCGUUUAGGUAUACUGGGUCUAUUAAGACUUUUUUUUUAGCGUGACUUAUAUAACUUGCAUGUUUGCAUGGCUCGUGGGCCCAUUUUUUGUUAAUUUGUUUAUUUUUAUUUUAUUUUAUUUUAUUUUUAUUAUUUUUAUUAUUAUUUUUAUUUUUAGUUUUAGUUUUAUGAUUAUCAGUCACUUUUUAUUGGUUAUCUUCCUCUUUAUAUUAUUUUCCUUAACUUAUUUAUUUAUUUAUUAUUUUUACCAUUUUCUAAUUUAUUUACUUAUUUAUCUAUUCAUGCAAUUGUUUAACUUCUAAAAUUUCAUGCUUUUGCAAGGAAACUUACUAUUGGAGUUUAAGGAAGGUGGGACUCUCCUUGGAAGGUUUUGGAGAGGAAUUUGAAAUUGGGAAGAUUGCUUUUGAAUUGGAAGAUUUAAAAAAGGAUAAGGAGAAAAAAGGAGAGAAAAUAGGGGAUUUUCCUUUCGGGAACAGAUUUAGGAUUUGGGAGGUGAUAUAUAUAGAUACGUGAGAGAGGAAGAAAGGAGAGGAGAAAAAGAGCUUUUUUUUUUUUGUGGGAGGAGAUUUUUUUUGGCGGGAAGCACGUAUUGGAGUCUAGAAAGGGAGAAGGAGGAAGAAAGAACAAGCAAAAAGAGGAUUUUUACUUGGGAAUUGUCUUCAGAAAGAAGAGAAAAGAUAGCCAUAAGUCAAGCCAUUGCAACCAAAGCUAUCCAGGUAUGCACCCCGUUGCUUUUGGAAUUCUUACCUAUAUUUGAUUUUUCCGUGUGUUCGAUUCUUGAAAAUUUAAUUGUUUUGUUGAUUUUUGGUAUGGACGAAAAGGGCCACAAUUUGCUUUGUUGAGAUUGGUUACUUGCCUGUUUGCCUUGUUUUGAUUUCGGAUGUCAUUAAUGUCUUCGGAAGCAUAUAACUCCAUGCCUGUUCCCACUAACCUGAGCCUAUUGAAAAAUCAGGAGAUGUGGUUUUAUUUUCUUUUAAUCUCCCAUGUCUGUUUUCCCAUUGUUUCCUCUACUCUCUACCAUAUCUGUUUUGCCUUUUCUUCCUACCCAUCACACGGCCAUCAGCUUUUCAUAUGGGGGUGACUCUAAAGCAUGGGCAUAUAGUCAUGAGUUUCAGUAAAGAGGUCAAACGCUUCAAAAUUCUGGAACUGCUAUCACAAUAUGGGAUCUAGAGAAGAUUGUCCGAAGGGUAUGUCAGCUGUUUAUUGCACUUGCUAAGUUUGGUUACCAUAACGUAAAUUUGUGAGUUCAUAUGGGGAUUAGAGAUGUGGCUCCUUGGAAUUCGAUUAUUCUAGGGUAUUUACACUGAGAGUAUAUUGGGGAGCGUGGGAGAAAGCAACAUUGAAAAGAAAAGAAAGAAAAAAAAGGGGUGGGGAUCGUUUUGGUGAAAAGAGGAAGGAAGCGCAGGAAAAUUAGUGGCAAAAAUCAGAGAAUACAAAACCAGAGGAGAUUCUCUUGUCGGAAGGCAGUUUUUCCAGGCUUGAUCCAGAUUGCGAAAUCAGUGCACUAUUCUUUUGGGCUCGGGGUGGUUUUGAAGGUAAUGUGUUUGUGAAGACGACUUUGGUUGACGUGUACUCAAAAUUUGGAUGUAUGGGUAUUGCGAGGCAAUUGUUUGAGAGUAUGUCAGAAAGAAACGUUGUUUCAUAGAAUGCGCGGCUUAAUGUAAUUACUUCUCUACACUUGAUCAGUCAUUAGGGCAGAUUAUUGCUUGAAAGCUUGUUACUAAACAGGUUGUCUAUUUCCCUGAACUUAGUUCUCUUCUAACUUCAGAGCGUAUGGAACUCUGUACACUUUUUUUUGCUUCUGAUUUCUCUUCUAAUGGCUCUAAGUGUAGAAGGGAAGAGCUUGAAGUUUUACGUGCUCUGCAAAUGAUGUUUUCUGUUUGAUCUCAAUGAUGUUUUGUUAAUAUCUGUGUUCUUCGGUCAGAGAAAGAAAUUUCAUGGAGAAGGGUUUACUACAGAAUGGGUGACUUCGGAUAUUAAGAAGAAAACUGGCCUUCGAACUACAGCUGAAGCACAUGUGACACUUGACUGUGCCAGAAGAGUCGAAUUUCUUAGCAAUAAAUGCAUGAAGCCCAGAGGGGAUCUUGAUGAUUUUGGCAACAACUUCUGUCUUGAAAGCAACUGCUUUUGCUGAAAAGAAUUCGGGCAGUGGCCCACAGUAUGAUAGCCUCUACUGAAAAGACCAGCUUUCCAGCAAUGAACAGCAUCAUCACUGAUGUCUCCUCUCACCCUCUCAACGGUUUUCUCUCCUCGUUCUUCUCAGAUGCAUCCCCGUUGUCUCCAUUUCCUCUCUCACUCGCUUCCCAUUUUCUACAAAUUCAAGAGUCCCCACAGUUUCUGCCCAAAAUCCUAGAACCGCCCUAUUUUCCUUGUUCGAAACUGCGCUUCCAUUACCGCAAAACCCUCUUCUCAGUUUCGGAAGAAAUCUGCCGAUUCCGAGCAGGAUGAGAAGCUUCGUUCUCUGUGUGAGCUGUUCUCGAAGCCCGGAAUUGGAAUUGAUGCGUAUAUUAUCCCUUCCCAGGACGCCCACCAGGGAACAAAUUAAGCCUCCAGUUCCACUUGGAGGUUUAUCUGGAUUCAUGUUCUUUGGUUCCAUUUACCACAUAGUACUUGUCGUCGGUGAGUCAACUGGAUAUUUAAUUCUGAAGCACUUCUAUUUUGGCUUCUAGAGUGAGUUCAUUGCUGAACGUUAUAUGAGGAGGGCCUACAUAUCAGGGUUUACUGGCAGUGCUGGUAUUGCUGUUGUCACAAAGGAUAAAGCAGCUCUUUGGACAGAUGGGCGUUAUUUUCUCCAGGCAGAGAAGCAGUUAAGCUCUAAUUGGAUUCUUAUGCGGGCUGGUAACUAUGGAGUUCCUACAACCAGUGAAUGGCUUAAUGAUGUCUUGGAUCCUGGUUGUAGAAUUGGCAUUGAUCCUUUUCUUUUUUCUUCUGAUGCUGCAGAGGAAUUGAAAGAGGCCAUUGCUAAGAAGAAUCAUGAAUUGGUUUACCUAUAUGAUUUAAAUCUUGUGGAUGAAAUAUGGAAAGAAUCAAGGUCGGAGCCUCUAAGAAAACCAAUUAGAGUGCAUGAGCUGACGUAUGCUGGUUUAGAUGUCUCAUCAAAAUUGUCUUCCUUGAGGUCUGAACUCAUUGAUGCUGGUUGUUCUGCUAUUGUUGUUUCUAUGCUUGAUGAAGUUUCUUGGCUGUUAAACUUGAGAGGAAAUGAUGUUCCAAACUCACCUGUUAUGUAUGCAUACUUAAUUGUGGAGAUUGAUGGGGCAAAAUUAUUUAUUGAUGAUUCUAAAGUUAGCCCAGAAGUGAUGGAUCACUUGAAGAAUGCAGGCAUAGAGUUGAGACCAUAUGAAUCCAUUCUAGCUGAAAUAAAGAAUUUGGCAGCAAAAGGGGCACACCUCUGGUUGGAUACGUCUUCUGUUAAUGCUACUAUUGUCAACACCUACGAGGCUGCUUGUGACCAGUAUUCUGGGAGCCUUGAUAAUAAGAGGAAAAAUAAGUCUGAGGCCUAUGGAGUCGCCAAUAGUCAAUCUGGGGUGCCCACUGGAGUUUAUAAGAUUUCACCUAUUUUGCUGGCGAAGGCUGUGAAAAAUCAGGCUGAAUUAGAAGGGAUGCGCAAUUCUCAUCUAAGGGAUGCAGCUGCUCUUGCACAGUUUUAGUCCUGGCUGGAAGAAGAAAUCCUUAAGGGUGUGCUAUUGACAGAGGUAGAUGUUGCAGAUAAACUUCUUCAAAUUCCGUUCUAUGCAGCUGUUCUACUGAAAGGCACAUGCGAGUAAUCACUAAACUCGUUAAAACAUUAUCUUCAUUUUCGAACCUGGAGUGUAAUCCCUCGAAGAGCAUUUUUUUAUUGCUAUAUAAAAAAGGCAAAAAAAAAAAAAACAUGAUAGAUGGAGGAAUGGCUCGGCACCUAGCUAGCAUUUUUAAGUGAUCCAGUUUUCAAGUCUGAUGGUUUGAACAAGAAAAAUCCCCAGCUUCAAACGGAAUAUCUGACGACCAGUGGAUUGCACCAUUGGCUAUAGAGAUUGGAAAGAAUAGUCGGAAUAGAAACAUCCAACAAGGACUCAUGGAUGCAGCAGGAACAGAGCAGCGACAGCGUGAAGGAAUUUCGCAAAGUGAAGGAAAUCAUUCAUUUACAGAUUCGGUCAGAUCAUGGAUGAAAAAUAACAAUGAGGAGUCUGCUUGGUGAUGGCAACGACAAGGGUACAUAUUCUAGUAGAACCAUUGAAUCAAAUCUUGGUGGUGGGAAAUUAACACAGAAUGCAGGAAAUCUGUCAAUACAAAGAAAUUGGGGAUUUUGAAUUUUAUGUUCCGUGUUUGAUCAAUGUUGGGGAGAAUCCAUUUGAGCUCACGAACCAAGUUACCUUAUACAUGGAAAUGCUUUUGACCACUGAAUAUCCUGCCGACGAAUUGGGUCCUUCUAUCCCGAAUUUUGAGGCUCCACUCCCUCUCGGCCACCUUGCCACACAUCAUACUCCCAAUGUUUCUUUUUCUUCUUUUUGUGAUCUUAUACAUUUUAAAUUUGGAUUUCAAAAUCUUUUUUUUUUCAUUAAAACAACUUCAAUUUUCUUCAAAUUCCAUCCUUAGGGAUUUCUAGGCAUAAAAUUUAGAUUUCAAUAAUCUUUUGCUGCCACUUUCCUUCGGGCAUGCAUUUUCACUAUUUUCUUUUAUUUUUCAUGGUUUUCUCGAUUUUCUCAAGCAUGAAUAAAACUUCAUAAUUCCAAAUCAUGGAAUUUAUGGAAUCAACUCAUGCGAAAUUAAUUAGGGCUUUGGUGGGGGCCCGACAUUCAUGAUAUUAUCUUCAAUAUUGUUUGCUUGAUAUCUGAUUGAUUUUUUAUUCUUCUCGAUGAAAUACUUGAAUUCGCUUUAUAUUUAUUGUUGAGAUAUCCUUGUUUCCCAUAGACGUGUGGAUGCUCGCUAAAUCAGGUACGCUCUUCCCACCCUACAACUCUGAAAUUCUAUGAAUGUGUACGUUAUCAUGAGCCAUGACCAUGUUUGAUGCCACAUUUGAUUGUGUUGAUGCUUGUUUGAUCAUCUUUGAUAAAAUACAUGUAAUGCGUCAUAUUUCCAAACUAAUCUCCUAUGUUUUAUGAUAGCGCUUGAGAAGCCGUUCAGGUUUGCACUUCGACCCUCUCUUAUGGUUGGUUUUCUUAUUAGGCAUGCAAUAUUUGAAAUCACCUAGCCUACUUAGGUAUCCAUAAUUAACUUAUUAAUGGCCACACUUCCCUUAACUUUGUCAGUAGAGACCUUCAGAGGGCUUAGAGGGGUGCUACCUUUUAAAGGUACCUUCCCAAUAGUAAACCUGAUCCCCGGACUUAGACUUGGGUUUUUCAAAGACAUGCUUUUUCCAAAAAUUAUGGAGUCACAUUUUAGGGUUUUUCUUUCUUGUUUUAUUUUCCCUUUAAAAUAAAAAUAAAAUAAGUGGCGACUCCAACUUUUUCCAAAAAUUAUUUUUUCACAAAUAAAAAGCGAGUCUCACCGAUCGAGUGGGGACACACAUGAAAUAUGCGGGUCCACAAGUCAUUUAUCAUCUUCCAAACUCAUGAUAUUCUUGUCUUGCCUUUCCUCAUGGUCCAUGAGUCUUGACUCACUUAUUUUCUCAUUUAACCCUUUCUUAGUCUUUUAAAAUUUAAAAUGAUUCAACUUGCACCCUUUUCUUCCCUUGAACCUAAGAUAAGUCUCCAAAGUACAAAUUAAACUCAUGGCUAGGGCCUUAGUAUUGAUUUAGGUCAAGUUGGGUGAUUUGAAUGUCCUUUGGUGUAUAAAUCAUAUAGAAUAUGUGCCAUUAGAGCACAUAUUUUGGCUCCAAUCAAGCUUACUCGCCAAAUUCCGUAUGUCAAACAUUGAGUGAUAGAAUGGAGUGGGUUGGUCAAAGAUUCAUUUGAGGCUCUAUAGUAUAGUCAUGAGAGCACACAAAUUAGAUGAUAUGUAGUUGGUUGCUCUCUUCCCCAUGUCACUUAGUUGAGCAGCAUAUAGGUGGUUGGCAUUAAUUAAGCCUUCGAGACUCUGCACUUAGGAGGAUGUGGCCUAUAAGUUUUUGACACAGUUUGCCUUUAGUGUCAAUAUUGAUUUUUUUAUUUUUUUUACUAAGCAAGAUGUCGAGAGUGUUACUUAAACAUCCCUAUGACAAAAGCAAAAGUUGUUGUCUUUAGUGCUAAUAUUGAUGUUUCUAGGAGAGAGUUAGAGGCUACUAAGUAGAAGCUAAAUGAAUCUGUUUCUUCAUUUAUUAGUCAUUGGAGGGCUAAGGUGGUUGGUAUGAUAGAUUGACUUAAGGAGUAAGAUUAGAUUGAUGUGCUUCUUUGGAACCUUCAGCCGAGGUUUGCCAGAUGUCUUGUAGGUAUUCCAUUUCAAGACUUCUUAAAUUUGGUUCAAUUCAUUUUUAGUGUUCAGGAGGGUAUUGCUAGAGUGUUAUAGACAAACACUAUUCCUUCCUUAGACAUUAAAGGAAAGAAGCUUGUAGGAUCAUUAGGGAGGCUUGGAGAUGUUAACACUAUCAGUUAUCAUCAUCGAGGUCAACUUAUUAGUCAUACCAAAGGUCUCCUACAAUCAAAGCCUACUUUCCUCAUCCAUUGUGCCAAUUGAUUCAUGCCCAAUUGGUGUCUCAGCUGAUUUGCAUCCAGCUAGUGCUCCUGAUUGAGGGAGUAAUCAACAAAAUUUAUAACCUAUAACACCAUAUACUAGGGUAGCAAAGACAAAGCUACUAUAGUAUAGUGGCUUUAGGAUCGUUCACUGGGAAUGAUUAACAAGCAAUCAAUGAUACCAAUUCCAAGUGAAUUGGCCUUGUUUCAUUUCAAGGUUAGCUUAAGAAGUAACACACAAACUUUGAUUGGUAAAGGUUUAGACUUAAACUAACUAACAUAACAGAAGUUUGGAAUAAUUUAGGAAGAAAAGCAUUCCUUAGAGAUUUAGGUUCACUAGGGUGGUUCCUCAUGCAAAAGACACGGCUUUGGUUAGAUGGUUCAUUUCCUCGCAUUAGAGAUUCAACAUAUAGUCAAUUCUCUAACCGGUGAUGUACAGAGACUCCUUCAAUUAGAUUUCACUUUAAUUCUCUCACUGAUGCAACUUGCAAUGGUUUAAGCCUCUCACUAAGCCUUAACCAUUCAAGGUGAUCUUUAACCUUGGAUUACCCGUCAAAAGCUCGCAAGAGAUAACUAAUGGAUGUCUCCUAGGAGUCCAAAAGCUUACCAAGUGUUGGCUAUUCUAGAAAAUCCUACCUUGAAGUCACCUCCCAGAGGCUCGCAAGGGGUAAACUAGUGCAUUUCCAUGGUUGGAAAUCACUUGCCUUACCAAGUGUUGGCCCAGGUGACUCCAAGGUGUUUUAAGUUAACUAAAAACAUAGAAAUCAUUGAAGGAUUUCACUUCCUCUUCAUUACUAGCUAAAACCACAAAGCUUUGCAUUCUUGCACUUGGAACCUCCCCCGGCAACCUUAGCUCCAAGGAAUUAGAGGUUUAGUUACUCAUUCUCUGGGGAAAACUCCUCAGAGAGUUCAUAACUUAGUAAUAAGUAAAAAAUACAAAGUGAGAAGGUAAGGCAGUAGAAAGAAAAGAGACUUUACUUGCUUACCCAAACUUUUUCAGAAGGAACUCCUCUCUGAGAACAGGCUCUCGAGAGGUAUAUAUAUGAACAUAAUAUAAAACUAAUUAUUACAUAGAUAUUUAGUCUUUUUACUAACUUAAAAACUAAGGAAUCAUGUAAUUGGUGGUUUACAAGGAGUAUUUUGGGAUUUAGACAACAAAAAUCUAAUGGAAAAUAUCUCCCAAUGUCGGUAGCAAAUAUCGGGAGGCUUCAGGAACCAUUUCGCAGGAGAAAAAUGGUGUCUGCGAGAUUUCGCAGACACUCAAGAGGGCUGCGAAAUUAUUUCGCAACACCAAGCUAUCUUCACAGGGCUGCGAAGUUGGCUUCUACCUUGAGGUUCCUAGCUUCCUUCUCGCGGCAUAAAUCGUGCAUCGUCAGAAGGACAAACACCUUACUGUACAAAAAUGCUGCGAAAUCACUUCGCAACAAAAGGGUGAUUUCGCAACACUUUGCAAAAUGCUUCCUUCAGCUCGAAGUGAUUGGCUUGUAAUGGCUGCAACUUUUUCGUUUCAACUCCGAAUUGCACACCGUUUGAAGCAUUGGAUUGUUGACUUCCUGAGCUUUGAAAUGGUAUAUAGCAUGCAUCAUUUGGACUUCAGAAAGUGCUCCAAAAGUGGCUGCUACGACUGUCAUCAAGAAUAUGCUUUAUGGCAGAUUCUCUUUACUUUUUCUCCUUGCAAUCCGGAUUUACUCUUGGCAAAUGACUUCUCAACUUUGCCCAAGAUUCCUCAUAGCUCUCCUCAGACUUGACUUGCUUUGGUGAUCAAAAUACUAACAAAAACACCAAAACUUACACAAAGUGAUUAAAAUUGCUUUAAAGGAUCCUUAACAUGCCAAUUGAGUUAAAAGGCUUAAACUACUACUCAAAAGUGUUUAAAAGGAUUAAUUAUAGGCUAUCAAAUAGCACUUUUUGAGUAGUAACCACUCCCCCCAACCGACAUAUUGCUAGUCCCUUAGCAAUAUAGGAGAGAAAAAUAAAAAUAAAUAGCAAACUAAUCUAAAAUUUACAACAUCAUGCUGAAAGGAAAUAAUUCUCAAGUGGCAUGAUGAUCUAAUUCUCACAUGAAUCAUUAAAGAAAUACAAACCCAAAUCUCAACAAGAGUCAUAACACCUAUGCUAAACACUGUCAAUCAAGGGAGUGCGUUAUGCAAACUGAAGUUUUAAAAUCAUUUCCACUUUCUAAGAAUCAAACUUUAAUCUUCCACAAAAAUCUAUGUGUAUUGGUUCCUUAGGUUCCGAUAAUAAUAUGCUAAACUAGUCUCUCCCCCCAACCUAUNNNNNNNNNNNNNNNNNNNNNNNNNNNNNNUACUCAAAAGUGUUUAAAAGGAUUAAUUAUAGGCUAUCAAAUAGCACUUUUGAGUAGUAACCACUCCCCCCAACCGACAUAUUGCUAGUCCCUUAGCAAUAUAGGAGAGAAAAAUAAAAAUAAAUAGCAAACUAAUCUAAAAUUUACAACAUCAUGCUGAAAGGAAAUAAUUCUCAAGUGGCAUGAUGAUCUAAUUCUCACAUGAAUCAUUAAAGAAAUACAAACCCAAAUCUCAACAAGAGUCAUAACACCUAUGCUAAACACUGUCAAUCAAGGGAGUGCGUUAUGCAAACUGAAGUUUUAAAAUCAUUUCCACUUUCUAAGAAUCAAACUUUAAUCUUCCACAAAAAUCUAUGUGUAUUGGUUCCUUAGGUUCCGAUAAUAAUAUGCUAAACUAGUCUCUCCCCCCAACCUAUCUCUUUUCAACACUUUAGCAAACUGACCAAAAUCAAUAAGAAAAGAACACACUUUCAUCAUCUAUUUUUAUUUUUAUUAUUAUUUUUUUUUCAAGGUAGCUUUAUGGGGUACUCUUUCUGACUUGUCCAUGUAAUGGGGGUCCAUCGAUGACUCCCAACCAAUUAAGGUUUAGGGCACCAAGUUUUAAGGAUCUUUCAACCACUAACUCCUCGGAUUUUUCCCCGGACUUUUAAGAAUGAAUUUCUAAUACCCAAGCAUCUACCAUAUGCUAACUCUACCUAUUCACCCUUAUAACGAGCAUUGAGGUCGGUGUCUCCCAACCAAUUAAGGCUUAGGGCACCAGGCUUUAAAGGCUUUCACCAUAUGCCCCUCAGACCUUGCUCGGGUUUCAAGGCAAGCAAACAACUUUCUUUAUUUCAAAGGCUCAUUGGCCUUUUGCAGGGUGUUUCAAUUUUUAUCAAAUGAGGUCAAAUAUACCAAGUCCCAAAAUUGUCCUAAGUCAAGAGGGAAAUAGCUUUUCAUCUUAUAAUCGGAAACUAAUGUGCACAGUGUGUGGAUAGCUUAAAGUGGAAGAACUAACUUCAAUUUCAAUAGAAGCUUCAACAAUUGAACCACUUUAGUAAGCAUAAUCCAUACUCUAAGUCAAGUGAAAAACAACAGUUCAAUUUCUCUUGGUUUAAUUUGAAAAUUUUUCCUCAAAAUUCAUGGAGAAUAGAGUAACAAGAGUAAAAAGUAAAAACUACAACUAAUUAACCAAUAUAAUUGCAAUACCAAAAAGAUUUAGAAUACUUCCUUUCUCAUACCCCCCAACCGAACUGAGCAUUGUCCUCAAUGUGAUUUGAGUGACUGUAAUAAAAGGGAGGAAGUGGUACCUCCUUGCUGAAAUCAAAUUCGAAUAUUGAUUGGGGAAAACCACAUGUUUCAAAAAGAAUAGAAUAUGUGAGAAAAGGAAAUAAGAAUAACUUAAUGCUAACUUUUAACAAGAAAUAUUCAACUUGUAUUACUUUAAAUUCAUUUGAUUACAAUGCAAAAGACAAGUAACACAAGGAAUCCCAAAUAUAGUACCAAAAUACUGGGAUUUCUUUUCAACUAAAAAAAACGAAAUACAUAAAAAUAUUAGAUAUCUAAUAUAGUCUAAUGAGUGGGGUGGUGCUGGGAUUAGGCAGAAGGAUCUACCUCUUCAGUAGGUGCAUCAGCUGGGGCUUAGGGCUCAGGAGGAUGAGACUCUGAAGGAUGAGGGUGUGGCUCUGUUGGAGUAUCAGUGGAGGGCUCUACAGCUUGUGGCAGAUCGAAAUGGACUUGGAGCUGCCUUAAGAUGGCAGCUUGUUGAGCCUAAGUGGCUAACAUCUGCUCUUGGCAUGCUCUGAUGGCUGCCAUCUCUUGAGCAAGAUUGCUUUGAGAAGCUGUAAGUGUCUCCAAUGCACGGCACAACUCUCGAUAUUCAGAUAUAGGAAUGGCCAUCCUCGGCUCAGCUGAUGUGGAUGGCUGAGAUGAAGCAGGUGCAGCUGGUGGAGCUCUAGGAAUGGCAGGAGCAGCAACUGUUAUACCUUCAAGUAUAUGUCUUGGGGAGGCUCUCCUUGCAGCUGGUUGAGGCUGCCCAAGCUGAUCAACUUUGUAGGUCGUCAUAUUAUUCCAUUUAUCAAGAGUGAAUAGCUCACGGCAAAUUCGCUUUCUCUCCAGCUGAGGCUCAGAGGGGUAUCCCAGAUGCUCCAAAAUUUGGCAUAGCAGCCUUGGGAAGAGGAGGGGAAUGCAAUCUGCUCUCUGAAGCUUCUUUUUGUGAACCUUCUCUUCAAAAUAGAGAAGGGCUGCCAUGAUCAGAUGAUGAGGCCCAAUGAAAAAUCCUUCUGACAUCUUGUAAAGAGCUUCUAGGAGGACUCCCCUUCUUUGGGUCCAAUGUUGCAAUGGGUAUAUAUUAUGACGCAAAAAGGCAUCAAUCAAAAACAUAACUGGAGGAAGCUCCCCCCUCAGCAGAUGUGAUCGAUUUGCAGCUCAUCUGGAAAGGGUGUGAACCACCUCUAGCUCAGUAGGAUUUGCCCAAGCUCUAAAAUUAUCGAAUUGGGUUGGCUCAAAGGGAAUUUGCAAGGCUUCAGCAAUAUGUCGUGCUCCCAAUAUGCCAUGUCUCCCAUCGAUUGUGAAAUGAAUCAAGGUUGGAUUUCUGACCUCUUUGGUUGUCAUGGAUUGGUAGAAAUUCGUGGCUAUCCGGGGAUAGAAAAAGUCUCUUGGAGCUAGCAGUUGCUCCAUGUGAUACCUCCUCAGCAGCUGGAAUGAUUGGGCAAGCUCUGGCCUCACUCUGAAUGCCAGUAAGUCGAAGCAAAGCUCGGAGUGAAAUGCCCGUGUUCUACAAUCCAAGUUUCCCUCAAUUGGGGGCUGAGGUAGCAUUGGCCUUUGGAUUACUUCUUCCAGAGCUGUUUCAGCUUGAAUUUGGGGCUCGGGAAGUGGCGCUUGAGGCUCCUGAGAUUUUUCUUGCGGCGCCGGAGAUGGUACCGGCGAUGGAACUGGUAGGGGACUCGGCAAGGGAACUGGAGACGGCACUGGAGUUUGAACCGGUGAUGGAAUUGGUGAAGGCUCUGGAGAUUGCUCAGUCAAAUCGAUGGGUUCUGAGCUCUCCACCCUGGGUUUCUUCUGCAAUGGCCGACCUCCUGACCUGGUAAGGUAUCGUCUUGUCAGCGGCUUUGGUGGCGCGGGCUUCACCGGAGGAGGAUUUGGCCUUGACGGCGAAGGCUCUGGAGCAGAACCUGGACUUGGCUCCUUUCACAGACUCUUCUUGCGGUUCGAAGGAGAUGAAGACUUAGCCCCUCGUGUUCGUGCCAUUUCGGGAUACCAAACUUUGGCCGGCAUUGCUGAUCGGAGGAGAUGACAGGAGGCUCGGACGGCGUGGCUCAAGGAAGAAGAUGAAAGGUCUACGAAAAUGGCGCUCUGAUUUUUGAAACCCUUUUCGCAGCUUAAAUGACCGGUAUAAAUAGGAAAAACGGAAGCCUAAGGGUCAGUUUAAGUUUCGUAACAAAACCCCAAUUUCGUAGCAAAAUGCCAUUUUCGCAGCAACUUCGCAGUGAGUUUCGCAGCUGCAAAAUGAGAGUUCUUGUGCUGCAAAGUGGCACUUGUGUGCCAAAACCACUUUCGCAAUUGCGAAAUACCCUGCGGAAUGGGACUUUUGGUGCGAAAUCACGCUUUUCCACUUCGCAAUGCGUUUCGCAGCUGCCAAAUGGAUGCUACUGUACUGCGAAGUGGCACUCGUGUGCCAAAUUUGCUUUCGCAGCUGCGAAAUACCCUCGCAGAGACUUCUACAGUGUUGCGGAAUGGUUUGGCAACAAAAUGCUCAUUUCGCAGAAGUUUCCUUCACUCUGCGAAAUUUCGUAGAGCUCUGUUUUUCCCCUGUUUUUGCUCUGUUUUGGCUCCGAUUUCGACCCAAUUUUUUUUCUUUCAAUUUCCUUGAAAUUUCUUCCACCUGGGAUCAUUCAAAACAAUUAAAACACACCUAAAAACAUCAUUUAAGAUCAAAAACUAAGAUCAAAAGUAUGGAAACAACUUGAAAAUUUACAAAAUUUACAAAAAUUUUGGACUGUGGUAAAACCACGUCCAGCAAACCCUUUUUCACUUAAGCUUUUUGAGGUUCAAGGAGGUUGAUCUCCUCCUUUUCUGGUUUGAAUGGCUCCAAGAAUGGCUUGAGACGAUAUCCAUUGACUUUAAAGCUAUCCUUGCCAUUGGAAUUCAAUAAUUCCACCACUCCAUUGGAAUAUACUCGGUGAAUAAUGAACGGGCCUAUCCACCUUGACUUGAGUUUCCCAAGAAAGAUAUGGAGUCUUGUGUCAUACAUCUAAACUCUUUGUCCUUCCUGAAAUUCCUUGUUGGAGAUGAGUUGAUCAUGCCACUUCUUCAUCCUCUGUUUUGCAACUUUGGAAUUGAUAUAAGCAUUAUUUCUUAAUUCCUCCAUCUCAUUAAGGUCUAGAAAUCUCUUUUCUCCUGCCUUGAUCAAGUCCAUGUUCAGCUUCUUAACUGCCCACCAAGCUUUGUAUUCAACUUCCACAGGGAGAUGGCAUGCUUUACUAUAGACAAGACGAUAGGGAGACAUCCCAAGAAUAGUCUUAUAAGCUGUUCUAUAUGCCCACAAUGAAUCAUGAAGAUGUUCUUUAUUUCCCUGUUAGCUAGCUCAACUUGCCCGGAAGUCUGAGGAUGAUAAGUUGUAGCCACCUUAUGCUUCACUCCAUACUUGGAUAAUAGAGCUUCAAAAGGUUUGUUGCAAAAAUGAGCACCUCCAUCACUGAUUAUGGCCUUGGGCACCCCAAAUCUUGAGAAAAUGUUCUCUUUAAGAAACUUGAGAACCACCCUGUGAUCAUUUUGUUUACAGGGGAUUGCCUCAACCCAUUUAGAAACAUAAUCCAUCCCCACCAAAAUGUAAGAAUUACCAAAAGACAUUGGGAAAGGUCCUAUGAAGUCAAUGCCCCAUACAUCAAAUAACUCAACUAUCAGAAUGGGGUUCAUAGGCAUUUGAUUUCUUUUUGUUAGCUUUCCAAGCCUUUGGCAUCUAUCACAAUUCCUACACAUGAUGUGGGCAUCUUUGAAAAGAGAUGACCAAGUAAACCCUGAUUGCAAUACCUUCAUGGUUGUUUUCUGAGAAGCAAAGUGGCCUCCACAUGCAUUCUCAUGACAAUGAGAUAGAAUCCCUUGCUACUCAUCUUCAGGGACACACUUCCUAAUAAUCUGAUAUGCACAAUACUUAAAGAGAAAGGGCUCUUCCCAAUAAUAAGAAUGAAUUUUGGCAAAGAAGUGCUUCCUGUCCUGUGCAUUCCACUCACUUGGAAUUUCACCAGUUACUAAAUAAUUAGCAAUAUGAGCAUACCAAGGAGUUUUCACUAGGAACAUGAGUGAUUCUUCAGGAAAAUCAUCAUUGAUAGGCAAGGGAUGGGAGUUAUGUGCUAUAACUAACCUUGAGAAGUGGUCAGCUACCACAUUCUCCACUCCUUUCUUAUCUUUGAUUUGAAGAUCGAAUUCUUGUAACAAAAGAAUCCAUCUAAUCAACCUUGCUUUUGCAUCUUGCUUUGUCAAUAAAUACUUCAAGGCUGAAUGGUCAGUGAAGACAAUGAUGAAAGACCCCACUAAAUAAGCACGAAAUUUGUCCAAAGCAAAUACCACAGCUAACAAUUCUUUCUCUGUAGUUGUGUAGUUCCUCUGAGCUUCAUUUAGUGUUUUACUUGCAUAGUAAAUCACAUAGGGCUUCCCAUAUUCUCUUUGGCCAAGCACAGCUCCUAUAGCAAAGUCACUGGCAUCACACAUCAGUUCAAAAGGUAAUUGCCAGUUAGGGGCUCUCACUAUUGGAGUUGUUGUUAAAAAUUUCUUCAGUUGAUCAAAGCUAUUCUGACACCUUUCAUCCCAUAUAAACUUAGCAUCCUUAGCUAACAGCUCACAAAGAGGUUUUGAAAGACUUGAAAAACCUUUUAUAAACCUCCUAUAGAACCCUGCAUGGCCAAGGAACUGUCUUACUCCUUUUACAGUUGUUGGAGAUGGUAAUUUGACAAUAAGCUCCACCUUUGCUUUAUCAACUUCAAUGCCUUUUUCAGAGAUGAUAUGGCCAAGGACAAUUCCUUGACGUACCAUAAAAUGGCAUUUUUCCCAAUUAAGCACCAGGUCUUUUUCAAUGCAUCUAUGAAGAACUGCUUCCAAAUUAACCAAGCAUUCCUCAAAUGUACAUCCAUAUACGGUGAUGUCAUCCAUGAAAACCUCCAUAAUUCGCUCCACCAUAUCACUGAAAAUACUCAACAUACAUCUUUGAAAUGUAGCAGGUGCAUUGCAUAAACCAAAAGGCAUUCUUCUAUAAGCAUAUGUUCCAAAUGGACAUGUAAAAGUGGUCUUUUCUUGAUCUGCCAAAUCAAUUUCAAUCUGAAAAUACCCUGAAUACCCAUCCAAGAAACAAUAGAAUGGAUGUCCAGAGACUCUCUCCAGCACUUGAUCAAUAAAUGGCAAUGAAAAAUGAUCUUUCCUAGUGACAGCAUUCAGCUUUCUAUAAUCAAUACACACCCUCCAACCUGAAGUGAGGCGUGUAGUAAUUUCUUCCCCUUUUUCAUUCUGAACCACUGUGAUCCCUGACUUCUUUGGUACUACUUGAGUAGGACUCACCCAAGGGCUAUCAGAUAUAGGGUAAAUGAUUCCUGCUUGAAGUAGCUUCAACACCUCAGCUCGUACCACCUCUUGUAGAUGAGGAUUCAACCUUCUUUGAAAUUGAUGAAUUGACUUUGCUUCCUCCUCCAUAUAUAUAUGAUGAGUACAAACUAAAGGACUAAUGCCUUUCAAAUCAGAUAUUUGUCAUCCUAUUGCCUUCUUACACCUCUUGAGAACUUCCAUUAAACAAUUCUCUUGAUGACUAGUCAGAGAUGAAGAUAUCACAACAGGACAUUGAUUAUUUGCUUCAAGAUAUGUAUAUUUCAGCUCCACAGGUAAAAGCUUCAGAUUGAGUUUUGGAAUUUCUUUUUCAGCAGCUGCCUCCUCUUCCUUAUUGAACAAAGGUAGAAUUCCUUCUAUCUUUCUCCAACUUUGUAGAGUAGCAAGCCCAAUAGGAGAUUCAGAAAAACCUUCCUCAAUAUCCUCAAGACUUUCAUUCAACUUUUCUUGCAUAUGUUGAUUGCAGUGCUCCUCUACCAAAGAAUCAAUUAUACAUAGCUCUUCUGGACCUUCUUCUUCCUCCGGAGUGAUUUGCUUUUUAGACAUGUAGAAAAUAUUGAGAUCCAGUGUCAUGUUACCAAAAGUGAGUUGCAUAAGCCCAUUCCUGCAGUUGAUGAUUGCAUUUGAAGUUGCAAGAAAUGGCCUUCCAAGGAUGAUAGGAACUAAAUUAGCUUCCUUUACAGUAGGAUCUGUAUCAAGAACAAUAAAAUCUACUGGAUAGUAGAAAUUAUCCACUUGAACCAAUACAUCCUCAAUUACCCCUCUUGGAAUUUUCACUGAUCUAUCUGCCAGAGAUAGAGUGAUUGCUGUUGGCUUCAACUCUCCAAGUCCCAAUUGCUUGUAGACAGAAUAUGGAAGCAAAUUCACACUUGCUCCCAAAUCUAACAAGGCUUUCUCCACUACCUUUCCUCCAAUCAUGACUGAAAUGGUAGGACUUCCAGAGUCUUUGUACUUCAAAGGAGACUUACACUGUAAGAUUGCACUUACUUCCUCAGUCAAGAAGGCUUUCUUGUUUACAGUCAACCCUCUUUUGAUAGUACACAAGUCCUUUAGGAAUUUUGCAUACGUUGGAACUUGUUUGAUCAUAUCUAGUAGUGGAAUAUUAACUUUCACUUGUCUCAAGACUUCAAGGAUUUCAGCUGCAUUUCUAACCCCCUUUUUCCCAUGUAAUGCUUGAGGAAAAGGUGGAGAAGUUGAUUUCUUCAGCAUUUCUUCCUUCAGAAGCUCCUUCUCUGGAAUUGCAUUCAUUGUUGCAUCAGAGUUCUUCUUUUCUUCACUGAUCUCACUCUCUUUAUCUUCCAUUUCCUUCCCUUUCUUUAUCUCUUCUUCUUUCUCAACAUGUGGCUUGGGUGUUGGCUGCUCAAUUUUUUUACCACUCCUUAGAGUGAUCAAGGCUUUCACAUCUUUCACCUGUGAUGAUUCUCCCUCUUGGCUUUCCACUUCAUGGACACCUUUGGGAUUUUGGUGAGGUUGAGAAGGAAAUCUUCCCUUUUCUUGCAGUGUAUUCAAAUUUGUAAGCCUUGAAAUUGAAUAUUGGAUGUUAUCAAACUUUUGGUUCAUAUCAUUUUGCAUUCCAUCCAUCCUUUUAUUCAACAUACUCUCCACUCUAUCAAUUCUUUGAUCGACUCGAGCAUUAGUGGCUUCUUGCUUUUCAAUAAAAUCUCCCAUUACUUUGCUGAGAUUAGCCAUUGCUUGUUCAAUACUUGAAGAUUGCUGAGAUGGUGGAUCCGGCUGUUGGUAUUGAGUUGCUCUGGCCUUCCAUGAAAAAUUUGGAUGAUUCCUCCAACUUGAGUUGUAGGUAUUUCCAUAUGGCGCAUUGUUAUUAGGCCUAAAUUGUCCAACAACAUUUGCUUGAUCUCUAAACAUUUCCCUUUCAGUUGGAAUUGCAGGGCAUUCCUCCACCAAAUGUUCAUAUGAUUGACAAUUGGGACACAGCUUCACUUGCACUGGUGCUUCAGCAACAGCUUGCACUUCAUGUAUUCUUUUCAACUCCAGCUCCUCCAAUCUUCUUGUCAUAGCUGCCAACUUUGCUUUCGUAUCAUCAUCUUCUUUCAAGGUAUACAUCCCAGCCUUUGCAUUGUAAGCAUUCAACUGAGACUUCAUUUUUCCCACUUCUCCUUUAGUUGGUUCAUCCCAUCCCCUUGAAACAUCAGCUACAUAGCUCAAGAAAUCCAUAGCUUCCUCUGGAUUUUUGCUCAUGAAAUCUCCUCCACACAUUGUCUCGAGGAGUUGCUUCAUUGAGGAUGACAUACCAUCAUAAAAAUAGCUCACCAAUAGCCAAGUAUCAAAGCCAUGGUGAGGACAAGCAUUUAUAGCUUCCAUGUAUCUUUCCCAACACUCAUAGAAUUUCUCAUUCUCUUUAGCUGAGAAGUUUGAAAUUUGCCUUUUCAAGCCAUUUGUUCUAUGAGUGGGAAAAAAUUUCUUGAGGAAUUCAGCUUGUAAAUCAGUCCAAGAGCGGAUACUCCUUGGCCUUAAAGAAUUAAGCCAAAUUUUGGCCUUAUCCUUUAAAGCAAAAGGAAAUAACUUAAGCCUCAUCAAAUCAAUUGAAGCUCUUCCCUCUUGGAAUGUAUUACAAACAUCUUCAAAUUCCUUGAUGUGUGCAUACGGAUUCUCACUUUCCAUCCCAUGGAAAGUUGGUAGAAGUGGAACAAGAUACGGUCUGAUCACUAGCUGCUCUGUAGGGGGCACUAUACAUGAUGGUGCACUCAUACGAGGUGGAUGCAUGCGGUCCCUCAUUGAUCUGAAUUCAUUGAGAUUAUCUUGACGACCUUGGUGACUAUGCUGAUCUUCAGGUGUAGCUUCCAUGAUAUUCAAGAUUACUUCAAAUUCUCCCCUCUGAGGUGUAUCACACUUAACAAGCCUUCCUCCACUGUCUCGUAUCCACUUUGGCAUACACAACUAGUAUCCAGCUACAACUUGAAUAAAAAUAAAGGACAACAAAAGAAACAGGGCUACAACAAUAAAACUAAACUAGGCUAAAUUUUAAAUGAUAAACUUAGAUUAUAAAUAAACAAAGAAAGAAUGAAAAUUAGUAAAGUGAAAGAAACUUUACCAACUUGUGAUGAAAAUCACAAGUGCUCAAAAAUGGUAUCAAUAUAAACUUGACACUCAUUCCCCAGCAACAGCGCCAUUUGAUUCGUCCUUAGCAACGGAAGUGGCAAUGGCACCAUCUGAUUCGGGGUUCGAUCCCCAGCAACGGCGCCAUUUGAUUCAUGCCCAAUUGGUGUCUCAGCUGAUUUGUGUCCAGCUGGUGCUCCUUGAUUGAGGGAGUAAUCAACAAAAUUUAUAACCUAUAACACCAUAUACUAGGGUAGCAAAGACAAAGCUACUAUAGUAUAGUGGCUCUAGGAUCGUUCACUGGGAAUGAUUAACAAACAAUCAAUGAUACCAAUUCCAAGUGAAUUGGCCUUGUUUCAUUUCAAGGUUAGCUUAAGAAGUAAAACACAAACUUUGAUUGGUAAAGGUUUAGACUUAAACUAACUAACAUAACAGAAGUUUGGAAUAAUUUAGGAAGAAAAGCAUUCCUUGGAGAUUUAGGUUCACUGGGGUGGUUCCUCAUGCAAAAGACACGGCUUUGGUUAGAUGGUUCAUUUCCUCGCAUUAGAGAUUCAACAUAUAGUCAAUUCUCUAACCGGUGAUGUACAGAGACUCCUUCAAUUAGAUUUCACUUUAAUUCUCUCACUGAUGCAACUUGCAAUGGUUUAAGCCUCUCACUAAGCCUUAACCAUUCAAGGUGAUCUUUAACCUUGGAUUACCCGUCAAAAGCUCGCAAGAGAUAACUAAUGGAUGUCUCCUAGGAGUCCAAAAGCUUACCAAGUGUUGGCUAUUCUAGAAAAUCCUACCUUGAAGUCACCUCCCAGAGGCUCGCAAGUGGUAAACUAGUGCAUUUCCAUGGUUGGAAAUCACUUGCCUUACCAAGUGUUGGCCCAGGUGACUCCAAGGUGUUUUAAGUUAACUAAAAACAUAGAAAUCAUUGAAGGAUUUCACUUCCUCUUCAUUACUAGCUAAAACCACAAAGCUUUGCAUUCUUGCACUUGGAACCUCCCCCGAAAACCUUAGCUCCAAGGAAUUAGAGGUUUAGUUACUCAUUCUCUGGGGAAAACUCCUCAGAGAGUUCAUAACUUAGUAAUAAGUAAAAAAUACAAAGUGAGAAGGUAAGGCAGUAGAAAGAAAAGAGACUUUACUUGCUUACCCAAACUUUUCCAGAAGGAACUCCUCUCUGAGAACAGGCUCUCGAGAGGUAUAUAUAUGAACAUAAUAUAAAACUAAUUAUUACAUAGAUAUUUAGUCUUUUUACUAACUUAAAAACUAAGGAAUCAUGUAAUUGGUGGUUUACAAGGAGUAUUUUGGGAUUUAGACAACAAAAAUCUAAUGGAAAAUAUCUCCCAAUGUCGGUAGCAAAUAUCGGGAGGCUUCAGGAACCAUUUCGCAGGAGAAAAAUGGUGUCUGCGAGAUUUCGCAGACACUCAAGAGGGCUGCGAAAUUAUUUCGCAACACCAAGCUAUCUUCACAGGGCUGCGAAGUUGGCUUCUACCUUGAGGUUCCUAGCUUCCUUCUCGCGGCAUAAAUCGUGCAUCGUCAGAAGGAGAAACACCUUACUGUACAAAAAGGCUGCGAAAUCACUUCGCAACAAAAGGGUGAUUUCGCAACACUUUGCAAAAUGCUUCCUUCAGCUCGAAGUGAUUGUCUUGUAAUGGUUGCAACUUCUUCGUUUCAACUCCGAAUUGCACACCAUUUGAAGAAUUGGAUUGUUGACUUCCUGAGCUUUGAAAUGGUAUAUAGCAUGCAUCAUUUGGACUUCAGAAAGUGCUCCAAAAGUGGCUGCUACGACUGUCAUCAAGAAUAUGCUUUAUGGCAUAUUCUCUUUACUUUUUCUCCUUGCAAUCCGGAUUUACUAUUGUCAAAUGACUUCUCAACUUUGCCCAAGAUUCCUCAUAGCUCUCCUCAGACUUGACUUGCUUUGGUGAUCAAAAUACUAACAAAAACACCAAAACUUACACAAAGUGAUUAAAAUUGCUUUAAAGGAUCCUUAACAUGCCAAUUGAGUUAAAAGGCCUAAACUACUACUCAAAAGUGUUUAAAAGGAUUAAUUAUAGGCUAUCAAAUAGCACUUUUUGAGUAGUAAUCACCAAUAUUAGUCCACCUAUAUUCAACAACCUUUCAUUGCUCGAACCAGUAUGCAACCACAACUGCCAUAUCCCAGAGCCACUAGAUCCCAUUCAUUACUCAUGUUCCUAUUCAUAUUUUUUUAUACACGUGAUCUUUAUCAAAGAGGGGCAUAUUUGUACACCCUCCAUUCUAUCUUCUUAAUACAAGCCCUAUUAAGUGUUCUUUCAAUAGUCCGCAAUGGUUCCCUAGUGGCUCUUUGCUGCUCAUAUAGCCUACAUUUUUCAGUCACUUUGGAGACUUUGGUUGAGGAAAUUAUUAUACCCCUCAUUAUGACCCUUGGCAGAAUUGAGUUAGAUUUAGGUUUUUAUUUUUUCUUUUUAGGAUAGCUCCUUUAAGUACAUCUCUAGGAUAGAAUAAUUAGGCAUCAUUUUUCGACCACCUUGGCCCAUUAAGGCACAUCCGACCCCUUUAGGAUCACCCUAACCCAUUUAGAUACAUCUGGCCUAUUUAGAUCACCUUGACCGAUUUAGACACAUUUGGCCUAUUUAGGUACAUCCAACUCAUAUAGGUCAUCCUAGCCCAUUUAGACACAAAUAGGCCCAUUUAGGCACAUCCUGCCCAUUUAGGGUCACCCUAGCCUAUUUAGACACAUCCAACCUAUUUAGGAUGACCUUGUCCCAUUUAGACACAUUUGACCCAUUUAGAAUUACCCAGGCCCAUUUAGGCACAUUCGACCCAUUUAGGUCAUCCUAGCCCAUUUAGACCACUUAGACCCGUUUAAGCACAUUGGACCUAUUUAGGAUCACCCUGACCUACUUAGGCACGCCUUGACCUAUUUAGAUCACUUGGCCCAUCUAGGCAUAUUUGGCCCAUUUAGGAUCACCUAGGCCAAUUUAGGCACAUUCGACCCAUUUAGGUUGACUUGGCCCAUUUAGAAACACCCAAGCCUAUUUAGGUCACUUAGGUGCCUACUUAGGCACACCUUGGCCUAUUUAGGUCACUUAGGCCCAUUUAGGCGCAUUCGACCCAUUUUGGAUCACUCUGACCCAUUUAGCCAUAUUUGGCCCAUUUAGGAUCAUCGUGCCCCAUUUAAACACACCUUGGCCCAUUUAGGUCAUUUAUGCCCAUUUAAGAACACAUUAACCCAUUUAGGUCACUUAGGCCCAUUUAGGUACAUUUGACCCAUUUAGGAUCAUCCCCCAGCCCAUUUAGACACACCUAAGCCCAUUUAGGUGACUUAGGCCAAUUUAGGCAUAUUUGGUCCAUUUAGACACUUUGGGCCCAUUUAGGAUCACCUAGGCCCAUUUAGGCAAAUUCGAUACAUUUAUGAUCACCCUAACCCAUUUUGACACAUUCGGCCCAUUUAGGAUCGUCUUGGCCCAUUGUAGCACAUUUGGCCCAUUUAUGAUCACCAUGGCACAUUGGGCCCAUUUAGGGUCACUUUGGCCCAUCUAGGCACACCCUAAGCCCAUUUAGGUCACCCGUUGUCUCACUUCUUAUUGCAUGGUUUGUGUGAUUGCAUUGUUGAACUUCCUUGCAUGGCUUGCAUGACACUUUGUUUUUUUUUUUUUUGUUAUUAUUAAUUACUUAUUUAUUUUUAUUUAUUAUCUUGCCAUUAUUUAUUUAUUAUUUAUCUAUUAUUAUUUCAUCAGUUUCUGAAUUAUUUUUAAUUACUAUUCAUUUGUUCAAUCUAAUUUUUUUUUUUUUUUUUGUGUUUUUGUAGGGAAAUUUACCAAAGAGAGAGCCAACGGAGAUGGAAAAUAAGAAUCACCAAAAUGAAAAAGGAAGAUAAAGGCAAAAGAGAGUAAAACUUACCAAAAGGAGAGGGGAUUGUGAGUUGCAUUAUGAAAGUAUGGAGAACGCAUUUUGGGAAGUUUAUCAAAGAGAGAGUGAAUGGAGGUGUAAAGCAAGAAUUACCAAAAUAAAAAAGGAAGACAAAACGAGAGAGAGUAAAACUUACCAAGAGAAGAGGGGAUUGAGGGUUGCAUUAUGAAAAUAUGGAGAACAUGUUUUGGUAACUGAGAAAUUCAGCACAUGGAGGUUUUGGAGUAAGGAGAGGAAGGAUUUGGUCAAGGUGGAAUUUUAAGAAAAAAGGAUAUUCAAUGUGGUAGGAAGGAAUGUUUAGCAUAUUAAGGAAGAAUGUGGGGAUUGGUAGGGGGGAAGAAGAACAAUUGCAAUUUUGAGCAUAAUUUUUAUAAAAUUUAUUGGAUGAUUGGUUUGUAUAAUUUUAAUGUUAGUAGAUUUUAAAAUUUUAUGGAAUGAUUGUUAGGUUAAAUUCCCAUCUUGAAUGUGUUUUAAAAAUUCGUUAAAAAAAUUAAAUAAAAAUUCUUUGAAUGUUUGUUAGGUUAAAUUCUCAUGUGAGUGUUAUUAUUAUUAUUAUUUAAUGCUAUAUUUGGUUGAAUUUUCAUGUCAAUAGAUUUUUUUUUUAUUAAAAAAAAAAUUGUUGAAUGUUUGUUAGUUUAAAUGUUUAUGUUAAUAUAUUUUUAAAAUUCAUAGGAUGUUCUUGGCAUAAUUCUUAGUUGCCCUUAUCUCUAAAACCUUUCUAAAAUAAGAAAGUCAUCCAAGAAAAUAAAAAUAAUAUAAGAGAAAGGCAAAGUUGCUGCCUUUUUUUUUUUGGGGGGGGGGGGGGGGGGGGGGGGGGGCCCUUUUUUUUGGGAAAAUUUUUUUUUGGCCCCCCCCGCCCCCAAAAAAAAAAAAAAAACCCCCCCCCCCCCCUAUUUUUUUUUGAGGGAAAAGGGGGGGAAAAAAAAAAAAAACCCUUUUUUUUUUUCCCCCCCCUUUUUUUUUUUUAACCCCCCCCUUUUNNNNNNNNNNNNNNNNNNNNNNNNNNNNNNNNNNNNNNNNNNNNNNNNNNNNNNNNNNNNNNNNNNNNNNNNNNNNNNNNNNNNNNNNNNNNNNNNNNNNAAAAAAUUUGAAUUGGAACAUGAGUAAUGAAUGGGAUCUUGUGGCUCUGGGAUAUGGCAGUUGUGGUUGCAUACUGGUUCGAGCAAUGAAAGGUUGUUGCAUAUAGGUGGACUAAUAUUGGUGAUUACUACUCAAAAAGUGCUAUAUGAUAGCCUAUAAUUAAUCCUUUUAAACAGUUUUGAGUAGUAGUUUAGGCCUUUUAAGUCAAUUGGCAUGUUAAGGAUCCUUUAAAGCAAUUUUAAUCACUUUGUGUAAGUUUCGGUGUUUUUGUUAGUAUUUUGAUCACCAAACCAAGUCAAUUUUGAGGAGAGGUGGGGGGGGGGGGGGGCGCUUUAUUUAGGGAGAAUUGUGUUUUGGGCCCAGCUAGGCCCAAAAAUUAAUAAAAGAUCCUCCAAACACCUAUAAUUGAUUGUAAGGAUAUAAGGUUGGAAUAGACAAAAAUACCCAUUUUUACUUACACCCAUCAUUUUGUCUUUAUACCACCACUCUUUACAUGCCCCAUCCAUAAAAUUCUCCUUUAUUUAAUCAUUUGUUUAUUUUUUAUUAUUUUUUAAACUCCUUUAAAAAUAAUUGAAAAAUCAACAUUAUUUUCUAUUUUUAAAUUAUAAAUAAAUAAAAAUUAUAUUAAUGAUUCAAAAAUUAUUUUGGAACAUACUUUUGAAAAAAAUAUUAAUUUAAAUGAAUAAAAAUUAUUUUUUACAUUUUACAAGUAAAUAAUUUAAUGAUUAAAACACUAUUUAAAAUAAAUAUAUUUACUAUUUUUUUUCUUUUAUACUAAAAACUAUUUAAAUUUUUUAUUUAUUAUUAUUAUAAAAUAAAAAGCUUAAAGUUUUUUUUUUUUUAAUCUUUUUCUUUCCAUAGUUUAAUAAUUUUUUGAACAUAGACUUUUGUAAUAAGUUAUAUGAAUGUUCCAAAUUUAUUUAUUAAGGAAUUUUUUAAUGAUUUGAAUUAAUUGAAAAUUUAUUGAAAUGAGAAAAAAGAAAAAGAGAGAAAGAGGAUAGAUGAAGAGUUUUUAUUUUAAAUAUCCAACUAAAAUGUUUUCGUAUUUAGAAAUGGAUUAUAUCAAUACAUAGUAUAGUAGAGAUUGAUUUUGAACAUAGACUUUUGUAAUAAGUUAUAUGAAUGUUCCAAAUUUAUUUAUUAAGGAAUUUUUUAAUGAUUUGAAUUAAUUGAAAAUUUAUUGAAAUGAGAAAAAAGAAAAAGAGAGAAAGAGGAUAGAUGAAGAGUUUUUAUUUUAAAUAUCCAACUAAAAUGUUUUCGUAUUUAGAAAUGGAUUAUAUCAAUACAUAGUAUAGUAGAGAUUGAUUUUUUUCUCAUACAAAGGGUUAAAUGAUAUGUUUACUCAUUUUAAAUAAAAACAAGUAGUUAAAAAUUAUAUAGAUUAUGUUUGAGUUUGGUUUUAAAAUAUUUUUUCUAGUUUUUAUUAUUUUUUAUUUUAAAAAAUUAUUUUUAUUUUCUAUAUUGUCUCUUUUUGAAAAUACAUUUAAUUAAAAAAAUGAAAAAUAUUUUUAAAAAUGAAAAUUGAAGACCUUGUUUAAUAUUAAGAUAAUAAAAAGAAUUAAAUUUCAUUUAUUAAUUAUUCUUUUUUAUUUUUAAAAUAUAAUAUGUUCACAAUUAAAUAAAGGAAUUGGUCAAUUGUAUAUUUUUUUCACAAAAAUGUAAUAUGUUCAUAAAAAAAUUGGAUUGAAGUUUUUCAUCAUUUUUUUAAUCAAACUACUAGAAUCAUGUUUAAUACAAAUAUAGGCAUAUAUGCACUACGGGAAUAUGAAAUUUGUGUCACUAAACAAGAGUAUUUACUAACUGUAUAAGGGAAAUGUACUAAGUGUACAAGCAGUGUAUAAGAUUACCAUUUAUAAAAGAUUUCAAUCUAUUUUAAACCACUCCUUUAUUUUCCUUGUCACCCACAAAUUGAAUACUCAUGUCAUGCAUUUUAUUUAACUCCCAUAUGGAAAUUCCGAUACUUUCCCCAAUAAUGAUGUUUGGGAAAAAAAAAAACUAACCCUAAUUCAUCCAUCCUUUUAUUAGUUAAACCAUUAGAAAUAUGGUUAACACACCUACAUGGACAUAUUACUUAGGAUAGAUAUAUUGUACAAUGGUAUUACACUAAUUGUACAAGGGAAAUGUACUAAGUGUACACGGAAAAUGUACUAAGUGUACAAGGGUGUACAAGACUAUCAUCUAUAAAAAAAUUUAAUCGAUUUUGAAUCACUUUUUCAUUUUCCUUGUCACCCAUAGAUUGCAUACCUACGUCAUGCAAUUUAUUUAACUUUCACAUGAAAAUUUCGAUACUUUUCUUAGUAAUAAUGUUUGGGGAAAAAAAUUUAAUCAUAAUUCAUCCACCAUUUUGUUAGCCAAACCAUUAGAAAUAAGAUUAAUAUAUUUACGUGGACACACAACUUAAGAGGGAUAUAUUGCACCAUUGUACAAUGAUGUUACACUAACUGUACAAGGGAAAUGUAUUAAGUGUAUAAGGGAAAUAUACUAAGUGUACAAGGGUGUACAAGGCUACCAUUUGUGAAAGAUUUUAGUUGAUUUUGAAUCAUUUCUUUAUUUUUUUUGUUACCCAUAAAUUGUUUAUGAAAUUUGCACUAUUAUAUAAGGGUGUUACACUAACUAUAAAAGAGUAUUCCACUCACUGUGUAAGGCAAUGUACUAACUGUAUGGGGUAAAUGUACUAAUUAUACAAGGGUGUACAAGGUUAUUUUUUAUGCAAGAUUUUAAUCAAUUCUGAACUAUUUUUUUUCUUGUCACCUAAGGAUUGAACACUUUUCCCCCACACAUUCCUUCACCUAAAAAUUGUUUUAAUUUUAAAUUUUAAAUUUCGUCAUCCAAAAUUUGUAAUUGCAUAUUUCAUUUAAGUAGUUUUAACAAUAUUUUUUCUUACUACAUUUACAUCCUAUAUAAAGGAAAAUUAACCAUAAUAUUUAGGUAUUACCUUUUUUUUUUGUGAAAUCAAAUUAAUAUAAAUGGAUAACACAUUAAUGUCAUUGUUUCAAAUAACUUAAGACAAUAUAAACAACAUAUAAUAACUGUUGAGGAAAAAUUAUGAAUAUUUUUUUACUAAACUAUGUCAUUUAGAUCUUCUCUACCAAAAUUAAAACAUAGGAAAUAAAAUUAAAAUUAAUCACAUUUAAAGUGUUUAUUACAAGUAAACCGAAUGAAAUAUAUAUUUUUACUAUUUUACCUUUAUAAACAUAAUGUUAGCAGAUAUUAAAAAAAAUCAUAUUUAAAUAGAAUUAAAAAGGAUAAAAAAUUAUCUUUGUAACAUUUGUAAUUUUUUUUUUAUAAAAAAUCAUUAAUUUAAAUUAUCAAGUUAAUUUAAAAUAUUUUUUUGUUGUAAUUAUAGUUUUAAAGAUUCUACGAUUUUUAUAUUAUUACUUUUAAUUUAUUUUCUUUGAUUUUUUAUUUUAAAUUUCAUCUAAACUUGUUUUUUCUUACAUUUAUAUGUUUUCUAUUAUAUCCUUAUUUAAAGUGAUUCUCAUCUAAUUUGUAUUCCAUUAUAUUCUCUUUUCAAUUUUAAUGUGUUGUUAUACCUCUUUACAUAUCAAAAGAUUUUAUUAUUUUUCAUCUACAAAACUUUAUACAAAAGAUAUCAUGUACGAGGAAAAAAAAAUAAAAAAAGAGAAAAUUAUGAUAUAAUUUACAUACACAUCUCUUAAUAUGAUACAUUUACUUGACUUAAUGACAUCAUGCUUUAAUAAUUUAAAUCAUGUCAAGUCCACAUCUAUUUUAGAUUUAAAAAGGCAUUUGAAUAUUUUACAAAUUAUUAAGUUAUAAUACAUUAUUCAAUUAAAAAUUAAUUAUCACCAUUAGUUAAAAGAUGAUCAUGUUACAAAAUAAUAUAUUAAAACAAUAUCAAUGUAUUGUCCAAAAAAUAGAGAAAAUAUUCAAAUAAUUGUCUACAACCUUAAAGAUAUUUAUAUAUAUAUUGGAUAAAAAAGAAUAAUAAUAUUUUUUAAGGUGCUUAAAAAUUAUUUAUUAUAUAUUUUGUAAGUUUAAAAAAAAAUAUUUUAUGAGGUAUUUAAAAAAAAUUUACUUUAAAAAUAUAGUAAUAAUCCUUUUCAACCAUUGAUUACCAAUAUUUAAUUUAUUAGGCAUGGUUUUUGGGAGAAAAAUAAUUGAUGAAAAUAGUAACACCUUUCUAGAAAAGAAUUAAUUUACAUGUCCCACCGAUUAAUAUGUGAGAGAAAAAGAUAAGGUGAAUGAUGAAAGAGAGAGGGAAAAAAAGAAUGAAAGAGAGUGGGAAGUUAGUUGUUUUCUUUUUCUUUUUGACAAUAAAGGGCAUUUUCGGAAAAUUAAAUAUUUCAUAUCCUUCUUUUUAAUUUAUAGAUUUUCUUUAGGUGUUGGGUUUAUGAAGAUCUUUUAUCAAUUUUUGGGCCCAGCUGGGCCCAAAACACAAUUCUCCCCUUUAUUUAUUUAUUUAUUAAUUUAUUUUUGUCAAUCUCCUACAAGAUGAUAUCCCACUUACACCCUUACGCAACAAGAGCGCGUGGGACACCCACUUCGACCCAACAACUUUAUGAUGAAUCUGAACCCUGUGGACAAUAAUACCAUGUGCAUAUAUAUAUACGAGCCUGUAACACUCAUUUAUAAGUUUAAAUUCAUUCAAAUGAGUCAGUAGUAAAAGCUAUGAAAUAUAUCGAACCCCACCAUUUUUUUUUCUUUUUUUUCGUUUUUAAAUUUUCUGGGGUCCCUCAGUUACUUUACAGAAGGUGGCAGAGAAAGAGAAACGAAUAAUCACUUUCCAUGCUGUUGUCUUCUUGUUGUAAGGGUAAAAUAAGAGGCAAAGAAAUUAAUGAAUUCAUUAUCUUACCUUUCUAUUGAAAUGCCUUCCAAGAAAUGUUUUGAGAGCUUUGAGUUUAGUCUAGAAUAAUGGUAGUAUAUUUCAAUGAAUAUGCAUUCUAGAAAAAUAUAUACCUUUAGCAUAUACCAAGAUAUCCUAGGGUUUCAAGUCAAGUAACAACCAAUCAAAACAAAAUCACUCUUCUUGGAAAACAUGGAUGUUCGAGUAUCCAGCUCUUUUCUUUAAUUGUGCUAACAUCGGCUCUCUCUCCAGCAUGCCAGUGUGCGUCCCAGGCAGCUCUUUUGUGCUUUAAAUGAAUUGAAUUCUUGAUCUUAUUCUGCCAUUGUUUUGGCUCAAACCUAAGAAGUAUAUUUACCCUAACUUCUUUUCAUGUCUUCAACUUACUCAAAGGCUCACAAGUCCCAUUGGAAGUAAGCAGUUAAGGAUUUUUGAACUAAAAUUAUCAAACAUAGUCUAAUAGGUUAUACUCUUUUCAACAGUUUAAAUUGUUUUUGUUGAUAGAUUAUUUGAUUUUUCUCCUAGCUGGCCCAGUUGUUUAUUUCAAAGUGCAGUUUAGAACAACUUUCAACAUUUGAAUAAGGAAAAGAAAAUAUAUAGAUGAAUUGACUGAUUCAAAGGGCAUAUUACAGUCAGUCUGUGCGUAACAGGGCGGGUGACUUCAAAUGGAUACACUGAGGUCUAUCUGUGCGUGUUAGGCAUUCAUGAACCUGUUUUCUUCGGUCAAAGAGCAGCCAAUACAAGGAAAAAACAUGGCGAAAAUUAAGUGAAGUGUGACUUCUGGAAGAUUUAUCACCUUCGUAAAUGAAGUGAGAGUUUUGACCGAAUUGAAGUAGAAAAAUUAAAUACAAUGGCCGGACCGGCUCCAACUAUUAAGAUUAUAAGUGCCACACAGAAAGAACAGAAAGAACGGUCCUAGUAAAUGAAGUAUAAAGACAUGUAAACAUAAAAUUGUCCAGGUAAAUGAAGACAUGCAAUGAAGAAGAAAUCUGUUGCAGACUACACAAAUCACAACCACAUAAAUCAACCACCCACCCAUUUUUCAAACUUCCAGCUCUCAUGCACUGGCACAGUUCGGUCCUUUCAAAGAUUAAAGUAGGCAUCUAAAAUUUUAUUGGUUUCAAGAAAUUUGGUGCACUAGGCUCCUAGAAAUUAAACAAUUGAAAAGUAAAAACAGUACUUUUCAAAGUGGAAGUAUACUAAUUUCAAAGUGGAACUACCACUGAAAUCUAAACCUUUGGUUUAAUUUUAAAAAGAGGGAAAAAAAAAACAGAAAGGAAAAGAAAAAUAGUUAGGAAGAGAAGAGCAGAAAACAAACAACUGCUUUAGGGCAGUAUAAAAAAGUUGGCCAUAAUUUGAAGAGAUCAGCAAACUUUAAUACUAUGAUGAAAAGUAAUAACUCAUAUCGCGGAGCAAUAUCAUCGGAGAGGCUGAUUGGUCUUGAAUAUGCUUCUUUUAACAUCAUGGACAUCUCUUUGAAGUCCCCAUGUAAUAGCCUAUAAGAAUUCCCAGCCAGGCCUUGCUCUCUAAGGCAUCUUUCUAACCUCUUUGGCCUCAACCACACCCAAUUCAGUAGCCUCCAUAAACAGCUUAUGAGCACAGUAAGGAACCCAAAAGAAAUUGCAAUUGAGCUAUGCUUCAUUUCCAGUUUGAGGGACUUGUAUCAGGAGAGGUGUGUUAAAUCACUUCAGAGUGAGAGAAGGACUUUAUGCUGCCGAUAUGUAUAAAUUGGCCCCUAUUCUAUUCCCUGGUGCCGGCGAACAUAGAAGAUUUCGUCAAUGCCUAAUGGGGAGAAGAAGGUCUAGUAUUUUAAAAUCUAUAAAUUAUCUAUUUUAAUUGUCUCCAUCAAUAUGGCUUUUAAACUUCUCAACGAAUUAUUAAGUUAUUCUAUUUGAUACAUUUCAAAGUUUGUGCAAUCAUCACUGCUUAUUAAAAACUAUAUAUGCCAUGAAUGUUGAAGGCAAAAUUUGAGCAUACGGAAUAUGGAAUUCUAUUUGACGGACCAGCUUUCACUUGUGAGUCGAUGGAGCAUGUGGAUGCUCACUUUCAGAGCCUCAAGGGGCAGCUCGCAUCCCUCACAUCUUGGCAGAUGUCGCUGGGUGCUUUCAGCUCUACAAAUCCAUCUGACAUCGAAAUAUAUGUACUUAGAAGCUAUUUUAAUUAUCAACACCAUAGAAUUGGCAUCGAAAGAAAAAUUAAGAUUUAACCAAUUCUACAGAUAACUACCAAUUCAAUUAUGCUUUGGGCACAAAUGACUGAUAAAAAUUCAUCCAAAAGUGCCUUAACUUGAAACGUCAUAGACUAAUUUCAACACCUGAAAAAAAAGGUAAAAAUUUGGCAUAAAUUAAAAGUUAUUCACAGCUCCCAGAAAUUAAACAAUUGAAAAAUAGAAACAGUCCUUUUCAAAGUGGAAGUAUAUUAAUUUCUUGAUGAAAGAAAUUGCAAUACUGUUAGCAAAGAUUAAGAACUAGCAGUGAAAUCUAAAACUUCGGUGUAAUUUAAAAAAGAAGAGAAAAAAGACAGAAAGGAAAAGAAAAAUAGUUAGGAAGAGAAGAGCAGAAAAUAAACAACUGCUUUGGGGCAGUAUAAAAAAGUUGACCAUAAUUUGAAGAAAUCAGCAAACUUUAAUACUAUGAUGAAAAGUUAUAACUCAUAUCGGUACCAUAUUUCUUAAUGAAACGACAAUGGAAGGGCAGGACACAUAGAGCAAUAUCAUCGGAGAGGUUGAUUGGUCUUGAAUAUGCUUCUUUUAACAUCAUGGACAUCUCUUUGAAGUCCCCAUGUAAUAAUAGCCUAUAAGAAUUCCCAGCCAGGCCUUGCUCUCUAAGGCAUCUUUCUAACCUCUUUGGCCUCAACCACACCCAAUUCAGUAGCCUCCAUAAAUAGCUUAUGAGCACAGUAAGGAACCCAAAAGAAAUUGCAACUGAGCUAUGCUUCAUUUCCAGUUUGAGGGACUUGUAUCAGGAGAUGUAUGUUAAAUCACUUCAGAGUGAGAGAAUGACUUUAUGCUGCCGAUAUGUAUAAAUUGGCCCCUAUUCUAUUCCCUGGUGCCGGCAAACAUAGAAGAUUUCGUCAAUGCCUAAUGGGGUGAAGAACGUCAAUGCCCCUAUUCUAUUUUAAUUGUCUCCAUCAAUAUGGAUUUCAAAACUUCUCAAUGAAUUAUUAAUUUAUUCUAUUUGAUACAUUUCAAAGUUUGUGCAAUUAUCACUGCUUAUUAAAAACUAUAUAUGCCAUGAAUGUAGAAGGCCAAAUUUGAGCAUACGGAAUAUGAAAUUCUAUUUGAGUGGAUGCUCACUUGUGAGUCGAUGGAGCAUCAUCACUGCUUUCACUUGUGAAUCGACGGAGCAUCAUCACUGCUUUCACUUGUGAGUCGAUGGAGCAUGUGGAUGCCCACUUUCAGAGCCUCACGGGGCAGCUCGCAUCCCUCACAUCUUGGUAGAUGUCACAGGGUGCUUCCAGCUCUACAACUCCAUCUGAUCUGGACUUUUUGAUACUUCAUGUUUUUUAUUUUUUAUUUUUUAUUUGUGGAUAAGUUUAUUUUGUACACCUAACCCAUCUUGGCUCAGUUUAUCAUAUAUUUUGUUUGUCUAGAUGUACUUUUAUUUUCUUAUCUCUUGUAUCCAGAACCUUUUUUACUAUAUAUGUCCAUGUGUUUGCUUUUCUUAUCUCCUUUUCAUAUGCUUACUGCUUUAUCAUGCUCUUUGUCAUUUUUUGCAACAAAAAGGGGGAGAUGGAUUGUUGAUUUGAUUAAGUGUUUUGACAUCUGUUUCAUGACUUGCAUCCCCUUACUCGGUUACCUAAUUUGAUAAAAUUGAUCAGUUAUCUUUCUUUCCACACUACUUUAUCUGGGUAUGUUGUUUAGUUUGUGCAAGUUCUAGGUACUAGGGUAUUGCUCAUUUUUUGGAUGUGGCUUCUAGUCCUUUGCACGUUAAAUGAUGAAUUGGUUUAGACAAGAGCUAUUGAGAGAUUUGUAAACUCCAUUCGAGAGUAUUAAGGGGUUUAUCCAAUUUGUAUUUUAUCACAAAAUUGCCAAAGGGAGAGAUUGUUCGUACAUCAGGCAAUGUAGUUUAAAAUUGUCGAUUUUGUUCUAUUCAUUUUGGUUUAGGAUCUUUCUAGAUUGUAUCACUCCCCAUUGAAGACUCAAGGUUAUAAUUAAUUGAUAAACCAGAAUGACAUAGGUAAGUGUAAAAAGAUUUGGAAAAGGCAAGUUAGUGUUUGGUAUGAAAUGGCAUGAAUUGAGCGGUUUAAAAUUGAGCAAAAUGAUUUUCUAACCGGUUUAAAAAAUGCGUAAAGCGCUUAAACACUCUAAGAGCAUUUGAGCCCUAGCAACAUAAUUCUCUACAACUUUGGAGAUCUAUCUUUCUAUUUUUAAAGGAUUUAUUUUGAGGAACUUUUUAGAAUUAGUCCACUAGGUUCCUAGGCUUAUAUAUAUGUUGCAUAAAAAGGUUUUUAGUUUGAUGCUUCUGAAUUGAAAAACGAAGUUUGUCUUUCUGUUCCCAAAAUUCUAGAAGAAACUUUCAUAUUUGCUUCUACCUAGUUGAGAAAGAGAUUUGUAUCCCCCUCAAGUGCUAAAGUGAAAUCCUCUAGGAGCAUAUUAGAUGUUGCUCAAGUGCUAAAGUGAGAUCCUCUAGGAGCACAUGAGAUGUUGCAUUGUAGACGUAAAACACAGUGUAGGUGUUAGGUAGUGAGUCUUAGUAGUAGCUUUCAUAAGAUAAAAUUGAGUACAUACCCCAUUAUAUAUGAUGGAGAGCUCCUCAAAUGCAAAUCCUAGAAUCGAAUCAAUUUUUACUAAAUUAACAGCCAACCCAUAUUUCAAACAAAAUCUUGCAAUUUCACAUUUUGAGCACUAAUCCAUGAAAAUGGUGUUUUUGGGGAGAAUUUCAAUUGAUUUAAGUGUAUUUGAAGAUGAUGCAACAAGAGAAGGCUAAGAGGAAUGCUAUUUUUUAACAUGUAAUUUUAUUUUAUUUAAAAAAAAAACAUUUCAAUACCAAUUUCAACAAUUGCUCUAUAGAUUUUGAUAAUGACCUAGAGAAGAAGUCUUUGUUGAAAUUUUUAUGACACUUUUAUCUUGUAUCAAAAGUUUUGAUACUAGUUGCAAAUUUUGUUAUCGUUUGCCAAGAAUUUUUCCAAUUACUUCUCUUGUUUACUUUUAUGACAUUUUAGGGAUUUUCUUGAUGUUUUAAGGUUAGGUUACAAGUAUAAAUACAUUCCUUAGAGAUUUUUAUGAGGAGGGUGAAUGAAAAACACAUAUAUUUAAUUUCAUAAUUUUAGUACUAUCUUUAUUAAUUUAUUUAAUUCAAUGCAUUUUGUUGGAAUGACAAUGAAUGGCUAAAUGCCUCAUUUUUCUAGAUAAGGUGGAUCUCCUAAGGAAAAAUCUCGGUAGAGUGCAUCUAAGGCAUUAAGAAAAGUUAUCCAAGUAUAAAAUCCCUCUUUCCCAUAAAUUUUGAAAAGCAAAAUAACUCGACCAAGGUUAGAUAUAUCCAAUUCAUAUUAGAUUCAAUGAGUGCUUCUUCACAGGUUAGGAAGUGAAUGUGAAAAAGUGUGACCAUCAUAGGAGUAUAUUAGAUCUUAUCCUUCCCUUCUUGAGACUUGAACUUAGGAGUAACCUGUUUUUGGAUGGCUUCAAUAUCACUAAUUGAUUAAUUUCUAUGUACAAUAUGUUUUUCUAAAUUUCAAACUCAUAAAAAUUCCAUCCUUUUAUUUCUAUUAGAAUAACAUAAAUCAUAUGGAAGUUAGAUUCUUAAUCUUAAGUCUUCUCAGCAUCAAGUAUCAACUAUAAGAACUCAAACUCAACACUUUAGUGGCUCUAAAGAGUCUAUUUAGUGCAUUUGAGGUAUUUAAAAAUGACCUAAUGCUUGGUUUUUUUAAUUAUUAAUGCCUUAGCCAUUUGCUUUUGAUAAUUUUUGUGAGUAUUUUUUAAACUUUAAGGCAUUUUGAAAAUAAAGUAUACUUUGUGGAGGAUUCUCAAAGAAUAAAAUGCCUAAGAAGAGAGCAAGAACAAAUUGUGUACCUUUCAGGUACACAAGAGUCUAUUGUGCAUCCCUCAAGUGAUCCAUCAAACUAGAUUGCACACUCCCUCUAGCAAUUUAAAUUGAGCACCUUUCCCACGAUUCAAAGGUUGCAUGCCCCCUCAACAAUUAAACCCAACAAGAGCACUCAACUUGUGCAUGUUCGUAACAUCUUAAUUGCACUUUUCCCUACCACUACAGUAGCAUAUCCCUAGGGUCACUCACUAUGCACACUGUUACCACUCUUGUAAAGGUUGAGCGCUUGAGAAAACUCCUUCCAAUGAUUUGUACACUCACCAAAGUAAUGUAAGCAUCUAAGCCUUAAGUCAUCAUCUAUACUAUCAAUUCUCUCAUAUUGAUUGCAUUGAAAGCCAAGUGCAACCACCAACUCCAAGUUGACAAGUCAAGUACAAGAAAGAUGGCUAGUUGACUACAUUGACACAUGAUCUGAUCCCCAAAAUGGGCAAGGGGCAGUUCUAGGAGAAUAGUUUGAGCAAUAAGAAUGGAUUACCUAAAGGGAAACCCAUUUAUAAAUAGAGGAUUGUCUGGGCGCGCGCCCACACACACACACACACACACACAUAUAUAUAUAAUAUGUAUGUAUGUAUGGGGAGAAAAAAAAAAAAAAAUGUUGAAGAGUUAGAAUCUUUAAUGGAGAUGAUAUCAACCUUUUUAGGAUUUAGUUAGGAAUUUAUUUUGGUAAUUAAAAUGACAAUUAAUAAUUUGGAUAGGAUUUGUUAAGUAGUUUCCUAUUUCUUUCUAUAUAUUUUCCUUAUUUUUUAUUGUUUCCUACAGUUAUAUAUAUAAAGGACAUUUUUCUCUUCUUUUCUCUAUGAAAAAAAAUACAUGACUAGGUAAAAUUAAGCUAUAGGUUUCUUAAUGGUAUCAAAGACAUCUUCUGGUUACUAGGAAUAAUGGUUAAAGGAGCAAUGAGAGGUACUUCCCAUUACAAUAACAACUUGAAGGAGGCAAAAAGAAAACCUAUCCCUCACUAGAAUUUUGUGACCAAUGGUCAUGUUCACUCUUCUUAGCUAAUUACCUCUCACAAAUUAACUUAAUGGAGAAAAUUAUCUUUAAUGGUUUCAAUUUGUCAAACCUUUUAUUUGUGGGCAUGGACAAAUUGAAUAUUUUAUUAAAGCAACAUCAAUACCACAAGGAACAAUUCUCAUCGAGAAAUAGGAAGUAAAGAAUGCCAUGAUUAUGUCAUGGCUGAUCAACUCAAUGGAACUCAAGAUUAUGAAGACAAACAUGUUCAUGCCUAUAACUAGAGAGAUAUAGGAGGCUACCAAGGAAACCUAUUAUGACUUGGUAACUUGCUCAGGUCCACACGAUAGCUAUACAAAUAAAAAAUACCAAGCAAGGUAAUAUGAAUGUAAUUCAGUACUAUAAUACACUCAAAACUCUUUGGUAAGAACUUAAUUUGUUCUAUGAUUAUGAAUAACAUUGUGCAUAAGAUAGUGAAAUGUUCUAAAAUAUGAUUGAGAAAGAUCGAGUCUCUGCAUUCCUAGUGGGGUUUAAAUCAGAAAUUAGAUGAGGUUUAAAGUUGAAUCUUAGUUUUGAAUAAUUCUAGCAAAAUCUGAUACCUCUUCACUUAACACUGCCCUAGCUAUGAAAAACCGUAAGCUUCACAUUUCAGCUAAUGAUCCAAAAUUCAAAAGGAUCCAUGGAAAGCCCUAGUGUGAUCAUCAUCUCCUCUAAAUGCUUCCAAAAUUCAAAAUAUUCAUUAACAAGUGAUUAACCAUCAUCUUUUCAAAAUGCAUCUUUAGAUGUCAUAUGCCCAAAGGUGUUCAAAUUCGUAAGAUAUUGACCAAGUCCAAAUAUUUAGAAGAAGGUAUAUCAUCCUCUACAAUUAGAAAGAAGAAAAUACAUUAUCCUUUACUAGUGAAAGCACAUAUGCCAUCACCUCAACAAAUCAAGCAUGCGUGCAAAUCUGUCUUAUUGGUCUUCUAAUUGCGGUUGAGCAAGUAUUAAGGAAGUACUUAAUUUGAAGCAUCUCUUCAUCAUCUAUAGUGGUUGUAGUUUCUAAUCCAAUAAUUGUACUCCUUUGAAAGUGGUACAAAUUAUUCUUCCUUAUUCCUUGCGUUACCACAAGUUUGCUUGGCCUAACUUUCACCCAUAUUUUAUAGUAACAAUAUUGAACCCUAUGGGUUAUAAUACUCUCAUUGAGAUGAGACACUUAUUCAUUCUAGGAACAUACUAAACAUCACUCAAAAUUUUAGUUGAUUAAUCACGAGUCUUCAACUGGAUGGUAUCUAUUAUUGUUAUCUCACAAACAUUAUCAUUCCCCAUGUAAACAACUCCAUCUUGGAGUUCUUCAAAGCAGGAAAACCACUCCUUGUAGGAAUGCAUGUGAAGGUGGACCCAAUAUCCAAAAUCCAUUCAUCUAAGUUAUAAAGCAAGGAUAAGGAAACCAAAGCAAAGUUUGAACCAUCUUCUCCAAACUUAGCCAGACAAGCAUCUAAUACUAUCUCUUCUUAAUUCUUCUUCUAUAACUUAGGACAAUCAUUGUUCCAACACUACCAAAAAUUAAGUAUGGGUGACCCAUUUAUAUUUACUUUUGCGACGAAUUUAAGUUGAUGCAAAUUUCUAACACACCUAUUAUGCCGCAAAUUGAAUUGUCUAUUGCUUAUAUGUAAUUAUUUACCAACGAUAAUUGUAACAACAGAUACUUGUUGGAAAAAAUAUUAUUGCAAUGGAUUUAAACCAUUGCAAAUGUUCAACUAAUAUACUUUGUCACAAAAGCAAUUUACUUAUUAAAAAAAAAAGAAAAAAAAAAGAACUUUCAUAAAUAAUUUUUUCUAUGAAAAUUACUACUUAAUAAAACAUUUUUAUUAUAGUGGAUAAUAAUACCACACAUAAUUUAUUCCAAAAAUAAUUGUUGUCUUAUGAAUAUAAAAUCUUUUCACCAUAGUUGUAUGAUAAAUACGAUCUAGCUAGUGACAAAACAAUUUUCUGAUCAUUUUUUAGGUUCAUACAAUAUUUACAUUUUUUUAAUCAUAAUAGUUUUAAUAUUUUUUAACUACUUUUUAUAGUCCAUUUUAGAAAGAAAUAAAUUAAAAAUUAUUGAUAUAUAUAUAUAUAUAUAUAUAUAUAUAUGUAUAAUAUAAUUUAUGAUAUCGAAUACUAAUAUUUAAAUUUUAAAAAUACAUUUUAUAGAGAUUUAUCUAAUUUGAAUGUAUUCAAUAACAUAAAAAAAAAAAAUUGAUAGUACAUGCAUAAGUAUUUUUAUUUUAAAAUGUUGAUAAUUUCAUUUAUAAAUUUAUAUUUAUUUUAUAUUUAAUUAUUAUACAAAAUACAAAAGAAUUAAAAUUAAUUAAUUUAUAAUAAUUUUAUUUUAAAUAAUUUAUAAUUUAUACUAUAUAUAUAUAUAUAUAUAUAUAUAUAUAUAUAUAUAUAUAUAUAUAUGAAUUCAUGCAUGUGUAAUUUAUAUAUAAUAUGUAUUUAUAUAUAGAUAAUAUUUAUAAUAUAAAUGCAUAAGUAUAGGAUAUUUACAUUUAUGAAUCUUAUAUAAAUUCUGUAUAUUGCACAUAACAAAGUUACUUGGUAGCAUAGUUACUUCCUUUCAAACUUGAGGUUAAGGGUUUCAAUCUUGAGAAACAACAUCCAAGCCAAUAUCCAAAACUAGAAAAGAGAUGAGUGUCCAUGUGAAUGUAAUGAAAUCAAAAUUUCAUGACAACCUAAAAUAUUUUAUUAUUUACAUUUCUCAACCAAUUUAAUCCGUUGGUAAUAGUGAGAGUCCAAAUCCAUUGGAUAGUUUGUCACUAAAUAUUUUUUAUUGGCAAUGGAAAAUUCCCAUCAAUAGAGUUUUGUCAACACACCUUUCCUCGAUUACCAUGUGAUGGGAUUAUCGAUUGGUAAAUGUUUAUUUCGACCAUGUAUAUCAGUUGAGAAAAGUAAUAUUUCUUGUAGUGUGAUGACCCUUGUCAUGAAAAGGACACAUUCAUCUUUUGCAAGUAUACAUUUAAAUUAAGAAUUGUCUCAUUUUCUAGGUUUUCAACUUUGAGAUUAGUCAUUAACUAUUGAAGCUUCCAAUGAUAUAUCCCAAUGAUUGCUUUGGUCCUUCUUUCUUUAUUCAGAGCUUAGCGAAGUGGAACGCACAACAUCAAAAGGAAUCUUAUCCUUACCAUAAAGUAAGGUGAUGGUAAGAUUUUCAUACACAUCAAGAAGAAAAUUCAAUAACAAUAAGGCCUUAUUCUCAUCUUCAAUGAUCUCAUCUAAAUUCAACAAAUUUGCUCUGAUUCUAUCAUAAGCAUGCAUAUGAUCAUUCAUAGACAUUUGUUUAUACUUGAAGCAAAAAAGUUUGUUAUUCAAAUAUAGUUGAUUUUCUAGACCUUUUUUCAUAUACUUGUCCUCCAAUGUCUUUCAUAAAUGUUUUUGUAGAUAUCUCUUUCAUAAUGGAAUAAUUUUAAGCUUUAACAAGAUAUAAGUGGAUGGAAUUAUAAAAUUGACAAUUGAUCCCUUACCCAUUCUUUAUCAUUCAUGUUUUCAGGUUUUUCUUCCAAAAAAAUAUCCAAAUUCUAUUUGACAUAUCUAAUUAAUGCCUCUUACUGCCACAUUCCAAAAGUACUAGUUCUAUCAAAUUUCUCUAUUACAAAUUUCACAUUAGUAACCAUUGUCUUAACUAACGAAGUUUUUGACUUUUCUUUUAACUAGUGCAAUAACAAAUAACCUUGAAACCAACCUUGGAUAGAACUAAUGCUCUUAUACCAUUUUGUUGUGCUUUAACCUAAUCCCAGAAGACUUCCAAAAAUACUAAAUAAAAUACAAACUAAACUUUAGUCCAUAAUAUAAAGAUAAAUAGCAAGAGAAAUAAAAAUAAAAGAUGAUACACAAUAUUUAUGAGGUUUAGUAAGGAUAUCUUACCUAUAUCAUCAGACAAUGAUGAUCAAUCCACUAAUCUUCAAAUCAAAAUUACAAAAUCAAGUUGGGAAAGCUUGUCUCACAAAGUGGUUGCAAUUACAAAGAUUGACUAAAACCUUAAAGAUUGAUUGAAGCUGCUCUAACAACUUUCCUAAAGUCAUUCUCACACUACCAUGAUGAAAGGACUUAGACUCAUUUAUAGAACCUGAAUAAGUCCUCGAGCCUUGAAAAAACUAAUUCAUAAUUCCUGUGGGACACGAACUCCUAACAUAUAACAGAUUAUGAAAUCAUAAUCCUUAUAGGACAAGGAUCCUUAAAAUAUAUUAAACUCUUAAUUGAGCUAAAAGCCAAUGCCUAAUAUAGAACUCACACCAUAUUUGCCAUAACUCUACUAAGUAGUUGGUUGUUAAGCAGAAUUAUCAGUUUCAAAGAUUAAAUAAGCCUUUCUUUUUCCUUCCCUUUCCAUUUUUCUUAUCAUCCAAACAACAAUGAUAAAAAAUUUAGUGUAACUUUUGUUGCUUUGCUACUUGUUCUCUCAACUUACUUGCCUGCUUGCGAAUGACCUCCAAAAUCAAAGUAAAUGGGGAAAUAAUGUGGAGUUCCAAGAUAUACAUAGAAAAGAGUGGACAACUAGAUCUACAACAUAGCUAGCAAUUUUGUCUCUAAAUUUCUCUUUGUCGUGGUAAUGGCCAUUGAAGAUGUCAUCACUGAGAAGAUCACAAAGUGAAGAAGGCAUGAUUGAGGGUUGGUAGAGUAGAGAGUUAAGGUAGAAAAUAACAAAGAUAGGAUUUUGACAUUUUUAGAAUUUGUAAAUAAAAAAUAAAUACAAUCCAAAAAUCACUUUCAGAACAUAAUUUUACUUGACCAUGGCAAACACGUUUUUUGUUAUGUGGAUUGUACUUGAUGUUCUUGAAAACAUUGAAUGCAUUUUGGAUUGACUACUAAACAUGACCUUAGUAAUUAAAUUAGCAUAUUGAUAAAUUAUUAAGAGGCUUUUAUCAAUUUGGUCAACUCUUAGAAAAGUGUUGUUGAAAACACUAAAUAAAAUCUAUAUAAUUUUUUUUUUUGAAACAUGCUUGACCAUACCAAACACAUUAUUUUUUAUUUGGAUUGUAUUUAAUAUUUUCAAAAACACUAAAUACAUGCAAUUUGAUUGACUGCUGAACAUGAACUUAGUAAUUAAAUUAGAAAUUUCAAAUGAAUUAAUGUUUUCUAUUUUGCAAGCAAGUCAAGAUUUUAUGUUUUCUACUAAAAUUUUGAAUGCAUCACUAAAAGUAACAUCACCACUUUCUAGUUAUAAAGUUUUAAGAAUAUAUUUUUUAUCAAUACAUAUGGUUGUUUUCUUUCGUGUCAAGAUACGAAAUACUUUUUUCCUAAAAUUUUUCCUUUUUACGCAAAUAAUAAAGUGGGGUUUUUUCUUGAUUUAUUUUUUAACAUAGUUUUCCAUUCUAUAUUGUUAAUAUACCAACACUUUUCAUUUUUUUCUUGAAUUUUGGAUCUUCCUUCAUUGUUUGAUGAACUAUUUCCUUAGCCAUAACCAUGAUGACCAUGACCAUGAUUGUUUUGGCUUCCUUCAUACCAAAUGUUUUUUUGCCCUCUUGUUGAUAUAUUAAACUACGUUGACAAUUUUCUAUUAUUUAUAUAUUGAGUCUGAUACAUCAUACUUCCAAGGGUCAUACUGAUGUCAUUCAACUUCAAGCUACUUUUGAGUUAACUAUAUUACAAGGUAUAUGUGCAAAAUUAGGUUGAAUCAGGGUACAAGGAAUGGCUACCACAUGUAUGCUAGGUGAAAUUUUAGAGAUUUUUUUUUUUUUUUUUUGUCAAGGUUAAGGAUUUGAAUAACUAAAGUCUCAAUAAAGUCUUUGAGGUAACUAAGGAGCACAAGGAGUGUUGCAUGGGGCAUGGAAGAAGAAUGUAAGUUACGUAUAUCUUAUUUUUAUAUUUAAUAGAUUGUUUGUGGUUGAUAGACUAUUCAUUGAUCUUUACACCCAAAAGGUUUUAAGCGGUUUUUUCAUGUUACAUUUUGUGUCAUAUGUUUAAUUGAUUAAUCUUAUUCAAGGAAUUGAUGAAAACUUAAUUAUAAUUGAUAUAGCUAGAUGUUUAGGAAUGUUUCAAUUUAAAGUGCUUUUAAUUGAAUUGUUUUUUUUAGAAGCAUUUUUAUAUAUUAAAGAAUCACCUCUCAAGCACUUCUCCAAAAAGUAUUACAAGUGAUUUUUAACUUUAUAAAGAAUGCUUUCUAAGUUUUUCCAAGCGUAUAGUUUUUCUCUAAAAGUGUUUUCUUUUUAAUACUAUAAGCAUUUUCGAAAAGUACUACUAAAUGGACUCUUAAUUUUUGAGGAUAUUUCACUUAGACAGCCCAUUCAUCCCUCUCUCUAUAUGGUUUUGUGUCUCAAGAUAAAAGCUCUCUCCUUUAUUUUAAUAUAAUCUUUGUUUGAAGAAUUAUUCUAAUUUUUACUUGACUUUUGUUUUUAAUAUGUCUUCCUAGGCUUUUAAUGAUCCCAUAAAUUGGUCAAUGACUAUAGAAUCCAAAUAUUUAGGCCUUUCAAUAACAAAAAAAAAAAAAAAAAGAUGAAAACUUUUUUUUUUUUAGUUACACAAAUAUCAUUAAACUUUCCCCAUUUAUUUUGACUUAAUUUACAUAUGUCAAUAUUUUUGGAAAAUAAUCAAAGAUUCUCUUAUAUUUAAACUUAAAAAUUCACUUUUAAAAGUAUGAAAUUGAACUUUUUUUUUUUUUUAAACUUAUCAAACUUUUAUAUUUAUUUGUAAUAUUUUUCAUGUUUCCUUUGAACUAGUUGCACUUAAAAUCAUUUCAAAGGUGUCUACAUCUAUUUCUUAAUAAAUAAGGUUAAAAGCUUUCUUGUCUUUCUUUCUUAUAUCUUCAAAAAGUCUAUUUAAUUUUGGGAUAGAUUGGUUUUAUCCUAUAGCUCCUUGUAGUUUUUCUCUACAAUCUAUUAUAUAUCUUGCAACCAAAUAAAACCUUUGUCUUGAAAUUCAAAUAGUCAAAAUUGUUAAAACAAUCUUUAUUGAGUUAAGCAACUUAAUUGCAUUACACCUUUUCCGAAAAAUAAAAUAAAAUAAGAAUCAUAUUAUAUGCAUAAAUUUCAUGAAAGUCCUGCAACCUAUAGGGGGUAGGCCUUGAAGUUACAGUGAUAAUUUAUUCCACUAAAAAUUUUGAUCUCUACAAUUAUACCUUUUUUUUUUUUUGGAGUAAUAGGGAUAAAUACACAAAUAAUAGUACUAUUAAAAGGGAUAAGUAGAGGAAUUUAAAAGAAAUUUAUUGUGUUUUUAAAACUUUAAUUCAAGUAUUAUAUACAAAACUCCAAUUACAAUAUGUUUUAAUUCACUUUUUAAAACUAAUCAAAUGUAAUUUUUGAAAACUUCUCGAAACUCAAAUUUCGAUUUCAACAUGUGAUUGAAUGAUAGGGAUGAUAAAAAAUAGGUAAAUAAAAUAUAUGUAAUAUUAUUGUACAUUAUUAACCGCUUUCAUACCAUUAGCAUAUCAAUGGCAUCUUGCUAAGAAGAAUAACCACCGACAAUAGUCCAUUAUAAUUGUUUCAGAAUGAAUGACAUUUAUUUGUUCGUAUUCUAUUGUUUUGCUAUUUAGGCCAUAUUCACUUGAACUGACUUUUUGUUUGGAGUAGUGUUUUAGUAGAGAAUUUGUAGGAGGACACCUAGAUUUAGCCUAUGGGUUGCCUUAAUUAAUGGUUUUGGCACAACUUAACAAAAUUCUAUGCUAUCAUAAAGUAGCUGAUUGACCAUGAUUGCGCAAUGCCAUCAUAAAGGAACUGAAUGCCCAACACACAUACAUGUGAGGUACCAUAUUUUUUAAGAAAGACAAGUCAGUUUGCAAUUGAUGUUAAUAUCUUUCCAAGGCGGAGACAUCAUUUUGUAGGUAUAAUUGAAUUAGUUAAACUUAAAGCCCAAUUGACAUUCUUUCAAGUAAAAUCAUUUUUAACCUAUAAUGCUCAACACUUUUAUUAUGAGAAUCAUAGAAGUAUCAGAAUCGUAGAGAAUCUGAGAAAGUGAUUCUAUAGUGUUGUUGAUAAUAUGUCACAUGACUAUAAAAUGUUUUUAAUAUUAGUAAAUUAUCAAAAAGGACAUCAAAUUUAAUUACAACAAGGAAAUAUUAUAAUAAACUAAUAAUUUUUCAUGAUAAAAGAAUAUAUAAACAUUUAUAGUAAAAGAAUAUAUAAACAUCUAUAUUACUAACAAAAACUAAAAAAAAAAUAAUAGUUCUGGUGAUUACAAGAAAAUUUUAGAGAAAAUUUACAACAUGAUUUGGAUUAAUAAACAAACAUCAAUCAUAAUAUAAUAAUUUUCAAAAUAAAAUAAAUUAUUUGAUUAUUUAUUCACUUAAAAAUAAUAUUUUUUUAUUACUACAAAAAAAUUUUGAAAAAUACUUACAAAAAAUCUAGAUUAAUAAUGAAGAAUUGAAUAAAAACAUAUUAGAUUUUAAAAAUAAAUUAGUAAUUAAAAGCAAAUGAGAAGACAAAUUUUCUCAUAGAAAAAAAAGGAGAAAAUUGUAUAUAUUUUUUCAUAUUAGUGUUAUAAUAAAACAUCAACAAAAUAUAAGAAGACUAGCAAUUCGAUCACGUUCUUUUUACAUCUCUCUUGCAUGAUAGAACCAUCUUUCUCAACUCGUAAAUUCACUAUAAUCUCUUUUUUAUUAAGUAGAUGUAACCCUUGAUCAUCAUCAUAAGGUUUAAAUUUCAUAUCUAUUCUAACAUUAAUCAUUAUUAAGUUGUAAAAACCAUCAAAGUAAUAACAAUGUUCACUUAUUUUUUAAGAGGAAAAACUAUGCAUUUCUCAUAUUGUUCCACAUCUGUUCUUCAAAAAGGCAAAUGUUCAAUUGUUCUCCUCAAAUAUGUCUAUGGUUAGAUAUUUCCUUCUUACCUCUUGGUAAACUACUCCAUCAAAAUUUGGAAGUUGGUAACACUCGCCCUCUAAGGGCCUAAUUAUAUAUCCACUCAUUUAAGGAUAACCAACAUUGAGUAAAUAAUAUUUACCUACAAAACAAAAACAAAAUAUUAUAUAAGAGAAUAAAAAUUUAAUCACAAAAGUAACUUUCAUAUUUUUAGUCACAAAUCUCUAGAUGGAUGAGGAAAACCCAAUUCUAGCAUUUUUUUUUAAUGCCCCUACAAAGACGCAUGCAUCAUGAGCAAUACCUCCCCAUCUAGCCAAUGCAAAUGUGAAAUACAUAUUGAAAUAAUAUAUGGCCAUAAUAUUUUAGGUAGUUAUGCUUUUUGUACCAAUAUGUGAUAUUUGCCUAUCUCUAAAAAUCAUAAUGGGCAUAUGAGUUCCAUUAAUUACCCCUGUACAAUUCUUAAAAUAUGGCCAAUAACGGUCAACAUUUCUUAUUUUAUCAAGGAUCUCCCUAAACUAUGAAUCACUUGGUUUUACAAUAUCCAUAGCUAUAAGACAAAUAACAUCUAAUAUAAUCUCAAACCAUCUAGAAAUAAAUUCAUUGGAGUGUACCCUCCCCCGAUCCACCGACCGGCGUGACUCACAAUUGAAACGAUAAGUAGAGAAAAAAAUGUUUUCCAGUUUUGGAAAAUCCAUCCCAACGAGGGAUGGUUUUUGUUUGGAGUCGCCACUUACUUUUUAUUUUUAUUUUUGAAAUGGGAAAAAUUAUGGAAGAACAAAAACCCCUCAAUGACUCCAGUUAGGAAAAAAACGGUCUGCGAAACUAGAUUUCUAGGUCCGAGGAUUAGGUUACCUAUCAGGAAGGUACCUCAUAUGAGGUAGCACCCCUCUAGGCCCGAAAUCUGGUCUCUACUAGUGAAUUGGGUACAUUGGAGCAUAUGGUAAAAGAUCAAUCAAUUCCCACCUCGAGCUACAUGAAUGACAAGACUUGCGCAAUUCUAGUUGGUAUUUGACAUGCUUAGGAAAUCGACAAUCAGAACAAAGAUGCGUACCUGAGGUCCCUAGUUGUGCGCUGAGAGAAAAGGUUAGUCAAUAAGCACAAGCGUACAACAUAUACAACCCUGUGAUUUACUAAAAUUUAGCCGCAUUCCUACUUGAAUUGAUAGAAUUUCUAGUCAUGACCUGACCCUAUACAUGUAACCUCUAAUCUUCGCUAAACAACCAUCAAAAUUGAAACUUAAAAAAUUAAAUUCAAAAUUUCAAGAUUUUUGGAAAUUUUGGGAACGGAAACUUGAAAAAAAUAAAUCCGGAGUUUUCGAAACUUUGGAAAUUUUGGGGAAUGGACUCUUAAAAAAAAUGAAUCCAGAAUUUUGAGCAUUUUGGAAAUUUUGGGAAUGGAAACUUAAAAAAAUUUAAAUAUGGAAUUCUCAAAAUUUUGGAAAUUGAAACUUAAAAAAUAAAAUCCGGAAUUUUUGAAACUUUGGAAAUUUUUGGAAAUGGACACUUAAAAAAAUUAAGUCUCGAAUUUUCGAAACUUCGGAAAAUUUUGGAAAUGGAAACUUAAAAAAAAUGAAUCCGGAACUUUCGAAAUUGGAAACCUUCAAUUUUAAAAGUUUUGGAGUUUUGGAAAAUUUGAUAGUGGAAACUUAAAGAAUUAAAUUUGGGAAUUCGGGAAUUUUGGUAAUGGAAACUUAAAGAAUAAAUUCUGAAUUUUGGAAACUUUGGAAUUUUGGAAAUAAAACUUUGAGGAUAGUAUUUAAAAAUGAAACUUUGGAACUUUGAAAAAAUAAACUUUGAGGAUAGUAUUUAAAAUGAAACCUUGGGAUUUUGACUUUUGGGAAUUUGAAAAAUUAAUUUAAGAAUGCCAUUAAAAAAAAAUUGAAAUUGCGGAAUUUUGAGAGUUGUGGAAUUUUGGAACAUUAAUUUUAACAAUGGUGUUUUUAAAAAUGAAAAUUUGGAAUUUUAAGAGAAAUGGAACUUUAGAAAACUUAUUUAAAGUUAGUAUUUUAAAAAAAAAAACUAGAUUUGGGAGUUUUAGAAAUGGAAACUUAAAAAAUUAUAUUCGAAAAUUUUGAAACUUUGGAAUUUUAGGGAACAGAAAUUUUAAAAAUUGAAUUCGGAACUUUGAGAAUUUUUGGAAAUUUUGGGUACCCUAAUUUUAAAAAUUGAAUCCGAAACUUUAUAAUUUUUUUGGAUAUUUGGGCAUAGGAAUUUUAGAAAAUGAAUUUGGAACUUUGUGAAUUUUUUGGAAACUUUUUUGGUAUGGAAAUUUUAAAAAUUAAAUCCAGAACUUUGUGAAUUUUUUGGAAACUUUGGGUACGAGAAUUUUAGAAAAUAAAUUCGGAACUUUAUGAAUUUUUAUAAAUUUGGUGUACGGGAAUUUAAAAAAAUGAAUCCGGAACUUUGUGAAUUUUUUGGAAAUUUGGUUACGGGAAUUUUAAAAAACGAAUCUGGAACUUUACGAAUUUUUGGAAAUUUGGGUAUGGGAAUUUUAGAAAAUGAAUUUGGAACUUUACGAAUUUUUUGGAAACUUGGGUACCGGAAUUUUAAAAAAUGAAUCCGGAACUUGGCAAAUUUUUUGGAAACAUUGGGUACAGGAAUUUUAAAAAAUAAAUCCGGAACUUUAUGAAAUUUUUGGAAACUUUGGGUACUAGAAUUUUAAAAAAUGAAUCCAAAAUUUGGCAAUUUUUUUUGGAAACUUUGGAUAUGAGAAUUUUUAAAAAAUGAAUCCAGAACUUUACGAAUUUUUGAAAACGUUGAGUAGUGGAAUUUUAAAAAAUGAAUUCAGGACUUUACAAAUUUUUGGAAACUUUAGGUAUGAGAAUUUUAAAAAAUGAACCCGGAACUUGGAGAUUUUUUUGGAAACUUUGGGUACGAGAAUUUUUUAAAAAUUAAUCCGGAACUUUACGAAUUUUUAGAAACGUUGGGUACUGGAAUUUUAAAAAAUGAAUCCGAAACUUUACGAAUUUUUGGAAACUUUGGGUACAAGAAUUUUAAAAAAUGAAUAUGGAAUUUUACGAAUUUUUGGAAACUUUGGGUAUGGGAAUUUUUAAAAAAAUGUUAAGUUGGAAUUUUGGGGAAUAUUGGAAAUGAUAUUUUAAAAGUUAAGUUGGGAAUUUGGAAAAUUAGAAAUGUUGGAAAUGAUAUUUUAAAGGUUAAGUUGGGAAUUUGGACAAGUGGAAAUGUUGGAAAUAAUAUUUUAGAUGUUAAGUUGCAUGUGGGCUGUGCAUGGGAAGUGCAUGGGCUAAAUGGGAGGUGUAGACGUAUGAGAGGAGUUGUGGGGAGAUGUAUUUGAUGGCUGUUUGAAGACCCUGAGCUUCCUGUGAGCUAUAGGAUGGCUUUAAGCUAUAUGUGGGUUGCACUUGGUGGCCAUUUGGAGACCUUGAGUUGUAUAUGGGCAGUAGGGUGGUUUUAAGCUGCAUGGGGGCUGCAUGUGUGACCUUUAGGCUAUGUGUGUGGGCUAUAGGUGUGAGGGUAUGGAGGCCAUGGGUGCAUGUGAGGAUUGUUAAGAUAUGGACUCGCAUAUCUAACAAUAGUUCAUGACUAAGCUACUCACCCUUAAUGUAUUUUUUUUCUAUUCGUUCUAAGUAUGGGCCAUCUCAUGUGUAGAGCCCGAUACCGUAUAUGUCUCAAAUGAUGGGCUUAAGACACAUAUGACCCAAUCUUUGCAACGGAAUGGUACCUAAGGCAGGAGGGUAUAAAAGGAUAAGUGUCAGUUCUUGAACAUCACAACUUUUGAAAAACUAAACUAAACUCGUUCUCUCCUACUCCCAUCGUCAGAGAGAAUACCAAAAAGAGGUGGUACCCUCCAUAGCCUUAGAAGAUCCAUACCUUCUUCAACACCCAAAAAGAGGCGGUGCCCUCCAUAGCCUUAAAAGGCAUGAUUUUAUGAAUGAAUUGAUAUAUAUACAUCUAUCUUGUAUGCAUGUUUGGUGUUAAUGGAGAAGACAGUUUAUUAUCAAGGAUGAGGUGUGAACUGUACGGAUGUCAUGGUGGGGUGUGAGGAUGUAUGUGGUAGUGUGGGCUGCACAAUGGGUGGGUUGUGGGCUGUGGGAGAUGAGUUUCGUGAAGAAUGAACAGUGGAGGAGGUAGAGAGAGAAGUGGGUUUGGUGGGUGUGGAAGAUGAAAACAUGGAUAUGGUGGUGUGAAUGAGCUAUGAGGUUACAUGGGUUGCAUUGUGAUGGUAUGAACGAGCUGUAGGUUGCAUGGGCUGCAUGGUGAUGGUAUGGAUGAGUUGUGAGGUUGCAUGGGUGAGCCAUGGAGGUUAUGGGUUGCAUGGGUGAUCCAUGGAGGUCAUGGGUGCAUGCGUGAACUGGGUGUGAGCUGUGGGUGCAUGUGGGCUGUAUGUGGAAAGUGUGAGUGAGCUUUGUGUGGGAUGUGGGUGCAUGUGGGCUGUAUAUGGAGAGUGUGAUGCCUUUUAGGGCUAUGAGGGAGCUAUGGGACGGCCGUGAGGGGAUGAGGGCUGCGUGUGGACUGUAUGGUGGGCGUGAGUGGCCUGUGAGGGAGCUAUGGUUGCUGGUGAAGCGGUGUGGUGACUGUGGAGGCUGCAUGCGGGCUGUAGGUCGGCUUUGAGGGCCAUGAGGGGGCUAUGGGAUGGCCGUGAGGGGGGGUAAGGGCUGCAUGUGGACUGUAUGGUGGGCGUGGGGUACAUGUAUGGGCUGUAGGUGAUGUGCGGGCUGCAUCAUUUUAUCCUGUAUGCCAUUUUAGGUUUAAACUCAUUUUUAACUUAAAACAUCUGAAAUUAACCCAAAACCAUGGCGAUGGGAAAAGAGAGGGUAAGGAAAAAUGGCCCAGAAAGGUUUUCAAUUUUCUUUAAUUGCAUUCCAUAUCUCCCUCAUGAAGCAUCCCUUCCUCACUUUCAAAUUGUAACUUAACUCCAAAAGAACCCCAUCAAUUCUUCACAACUACAUAAGAAUAAUUGAUCACCUCCCUUGCCUUCCCUUCAGAAUUAGUUUCUUUGCAUAGACCAGUCCACUCACCAAGAGUUUUAUCAUUGAGUGCCGAUAUAAGGCUGACAUUAUGGUCAGCACAAAUAAAUUUAAUACAGUCCAGCUGAUUACAAAUCUCUUCCAAUACACACAAUUGGGCAGCAUGUUUUUCAAUCAUCUUAGCACUUUCGUGGAAGCUUCGCAUAGGUCCAACAUGAGCCAAUGAUUACCUUAAGACGGGUAUCAGGGCUGUCUUGAGGUCUAUGGUCUUACCUAGGAGGGGCACCAGCAGCCUCAACCACAACAACUUCAUCUCCAAACAUUUUCCUCAAUCAUCCCCCCUAGAUGAUCUUGGUGUGCAAGCUUACCCAUAUGAUUCUAACCGAGCAUGAGAAAUCGGUAUACAUGGCGUAUAGAACCAAAAACAUAGGACAUCGGGAAGACCAGACAAGAAGUUGAAACGAAAAUAGGGUAAAUGAAAACAAGGAUAAAACAAAGGACAUGCAAAAUAAUCACCAAUCCAUAUUCCAUAAACAGAGAGUCAAUAGACUUGUAUUAAGGAUGGGUGAGAAGAAUUUCCAGAAAUUAUCAAGAGGCUUAAAACAGAGUUCAAACCAAUCUCUGUAAAGCACAAUGAAAAUGGAACAUAAAAGCACUAUAACUCAGCCCAAACAAUCCAAAGAUCAGCCACUAUACAGCCUGAUACCUAUACCUAAAAUUAAUGACGAGCAUAUAGGCCUUCGACCACCAAAACAUCUAACAAAUGGAAUAAAUCUAGAAAAGAGUAGAUGUUUUAAUGUAAAGAACUUACCUCCUAGAAUAUGUGGAUUGUCCUGAAUCCUCAUUGCCUUGCUCUCUGUUCUGACUUUUUUCUCUGUUCUCCCUUCAGAAUCCGUUUUUCUUUCUUUCUCUCAAAACCUCCCCCUUUCCUCCAGAUUUUUCUGCUCCAGACCCCCUCUUUUUGAAACCUCCUCAACUUUUCUUCUCCUCUCUCCUCUUUUUUUUUUUUUUCUUUUUAUACCAGAAUCUCCUUUCUACCUCCUCCCAUGCCUUCUCAAAAUCCUCAAAUUCUUUCAAAAACUCUGUUCCACCUCUGCAAACUCUCCUUCCCAUAAAAAAAAAAAUCCUCUUCCUCAGGUCAACUUAUCUAUCUCUUCCCCAUUUUCCAAUUAAUUAAAUCCUUUUUUUUUUCAAAACCUUUGUUUUUCUUCUUUUAGCCAACGACCCUUGGAAUUUUUAUUUAUUUAUUUAUUUAUUUUAAAACCUCAUUUUCUGCACCCUUCCAUUUUCAAAAAUAUCAACCUCUUUUUUUUUUUUUUUAUGCACUCGAUUUUUUACUUUGCCAAGUCUUUUUUUUUUUAAAGUAAAUAAAAUAAAAUAAAUUGAAUAAAAUAAAAUAAUAAUAAAAAACAUAAAGUAAAUAAAUAAUAAUAAUAAUAAUGAUAAUAAUGACUUACCAAAAAAAAAAGCUAUUCAUAAAAAAAAUUAUAUUGAAACAUUUCAAAAUAAAUAAAUAAAUUGAAUAAAAUAAAAUAAAAUAAUAAAAUAAUUUACCAAAUUAAUAAUAAUAAUAAUAAUAAUAAUAAUAAGAUAAGAGCAAUAAUCACAUGCAAAUUUUUUGAAAAUAAAUAAGUAGGUGAAUAUAUAAAUAAAAUAAGAAAAAUAAAUAAAUAUCAAAUGCAUAUAAUUAAUAAUCUAAAUAUUAAACUAAAACACAAUAAAAAAUUAAAUUUAAAAAAAUUAUCAAAUUGACACAAUUAAACAUCGAAAAUUCUUUUUAGGCAAUCAAAAUCAAAAUCAAAAUCAAGAUCAAACCCAAUACUUACCUAAUCUCAAACAUCUAGCAAUCAAGAAAUUAAUCUUAGGGAAUUAACCCCAAAAAAGCAUCUAAGUGACCUAGGUGAAAAAGUGUCUAAGUGACCAAAGUGGAAAGUGCCAAGGUGAAUUAGGUGGAAAUUAAACUAAGGAGGUGUCUAAGUGAUCAAAAAUGCGCUAAGUGACCUAGAAGGUUUAAAAAAGGGCCUAAGUGAUGUAGGGUGAUUAGAAACGUGUUAAGUGGCCUACGAGUGUAUUUAAUGGGCCAAAUGCAUUUAAAUAGGCCUAAGGUGCCAAAGUGGGCCUAAGGUGGUGCCCAAUGGGUCACCAGAGAAUUAUUGAAAAGUAUCAAAUGGACACAUAAUAGAACAUGUGCUAGUAGGACAAAAUGGAGGGUCUACAUGGAAUGCUAAAAUCUUUCUUAGGUCGUCAUGUUGCCAAGUCUAUGACCUAUUAUAGUGAGAAACAUUGCUAAAGCCUCUAUUAAGGGCAUAUCCAAACCUUCUCUUAGACCAUGCCUUUUAAUAAGUGUUUCUAAUCAUUAAUGCAUACAUGUUUUUCCAUCCUAAAUUGCUCAAAACUCUAAUUUCGAAAAAGUUCUACAAGGUUUUUAUUUUUUAUUUUUGUAGUUAGUAAGUGUUACAGGUACAACACAUCAAACCAACACCAAUUGAUAAAAAACAUUUCACCAUUGCUUUCAUCUUUAAUAUUAUGAUUGCAACUAUUAUUAUAAUUAGAAAACAUAUAUACAAAAAAUAAAAAUAAGAAAUACAUUAAAAAAAAACCAAUAAUGUACAUUUUAUGUUAAUAUAGCUUAAACUUAUGCAUGUUUACUAAAAUAAAAGGAUUUUUUAUUUAAAAAUUUAUUUGAACAGGCCAAUUCAAGAGUAGUAGUAGUAGUAAGCAAAAUAAUAGCACUAAAAAAUAAGAGCAUAAAUACAUGUAAUCAUAUAAUUAUAUUUUUCCAUAAUAAUAAUAAUAAUAAUAAUAAUCUAGCUCAUGUGGGUCACCCUAGGAUAAGACUCCUCCCAUAACACCCCUAUUUUCAAUCCAUUUCUAUUCUUAAUAGCUUGAUUAAUUAAACAAAAUUUUAAAUUCGAAAGUGUUGUGUUGAGAAAUCAAAUACAUUAUAAAGCUCAUCUAAUUAACGACUUGACUGAAACAAAAUUUUAGAUUCAAAAGUGUUGUGUUGCAAAAUCAAAUACAUUAUAAAGCUCAUCUAAUGGUCACAACUUUUAGAGAAAGAAACAAUUAAAUAUACCAUGUGAUAGGCAUAUAUGUCUUCCUCACUCAAAAAUUUCACUCAAUACCAACAUACAAAUCCAAUUUAAAACAAUAUUAGGUAGCAAAAUAUGUUUCAACAUUAGAAUAAGAAAUAACUCAAAUAGUCAAACAUGUUUUUGCUUAUGUCGUGCAAUUUGAUCAAUUGAGUUUUCUAAUGUAAGAAACAUCUCAUUAUUUUCCUUGACAACUUGAAUAACUAUGACUUUCAUAUACAACUUAAGGUCAUUCUCCACUUCAAGCAUGCCACAUAUAACUUUUAUUACUUUAACCAUGCUACAACCAAACUUAUCUACUCUAGAUGUAACUUUAAAAAUGGGCUCUAACUGCAUAGUAAAAACACAAGAUUUGGUUCCAUCUCUUAUCUUCUUUCUUCUUCUCUUAUUUUGCCUUGAAAUUUAUUGCCUUGGGGUUCUUCUACAAAAGUAUCCAAUUCAUUAUAUUUCACAACCAAAAUAUAAAUUAACCAAAUAAACUUAGUAAAUAAAUAAAAAUGUAUCUUCAAUUUAUUAUCCUACCAUUCGUUUUUAGCAUUAGUGGUUUGUGUCAUAGGUUCCACCCAAGGCCAAUCUCUUUUUGAAUCAAGGCAUUCCAAAGUUGUCAAUCAUUUUUUAAGAGUACUUACUGUUAUAGUUGAACAAAAAAUGAUCUCUUCAAGAAUAUUUUAGAGACUUCAAAAUUAUAUAUGAUAAUCUUGCCGCAAUCAAAAGCUAAUUUCAAACCAAGACAAAGUUUGUUGAUUCACUCGUGGUUUAGGAUAAUGGAAUGAUUUUUUAUUUUUUUUUAAUCUACAAUGCUUUUCUAGCCAAUUCAUAGUAUCUCUUUAAGGACAUAAGCAAUCACUCACUCGAAAGAGAUGGAAAGAAAAUUUUCCUAGAGGAUGUACAAGUUUUUAAAGAAAAUUUUCCUAAAGGAUGUACAAGUUUUUAUUUGGACAACAUAGUUAUGGUCAUAAUGGUUAAAAAGGCGGAAAUUUUAAUUUGAGGGGAAGAAUCUUUACACUUCCUAGUGUUACGAUUUUUAUUUUUUAUUUUUUAAAUAUUUUUAUGAUUUUAUCAAGUCCUUGUCAAAGGAUGUCUUCACCAUGUUUUGAGAUAAGUCGGGUGUGCAUAUUCAUUCCCACUCCAACUUUAGCGGGCAUAUUAAAGGAAAGAAUAAAAUAAGACAAAAAGAACAUAGGAUGGCAACACGUAGGAUGAUAAAAAUCCGCUUCAAUUAAUAUUUCCAUAAAUCAAGAGUAAUCAAAUAUUAAAAUAUCUGAUUUUCCUAAUUUAGGAUAUAAUAUUUAUUUUAAAUAAAUAAAGAACAAUCAAAUAUUAAUAAUAUUUUAUUAUCUUAAUUUAGGAAAUAAUACUUAUUUUCCUUAAUUUUAGGAUACUUGUUAUUUCUUUCUUUGUAUAAUUCACAAUGCAUUCUUGUAUAAAUUUUCUAAAAGAAACAAUAAAAUUCAUCAUUUUCAUUGCCAAAUUAUCAAAUCCUUUACUAAUGACCUUAUGAUUAAAAUCUUGUUUGUUUGGUAAGCUAUGAAUUUUAAUGAUAUUCCAUCAUUUCUAGGCCUCUCAAACCUUCAAUUUAGUAGGGUUACAAAACAUAAUUUCUCAAACAGCAUUCUUUCCAUAGUCAUAUCUCUAGCCUUGCUAUAAACCAAGACCAUCAAGGACCAAGACACAACAUUCUUGUCUACCAUCUUGUCAAACAACUCAAAUGUUGUAUUUAUAUAUCCUACUUUAACACACCCAUCGAAUAUUAUGUUCAAACUAAUAACAUCUCCAUUUGGCAUUUCAUCAAAAGCCUUGCUCACCUUUUCUUGAUCCACAUGGGCAUAAAUCACUCUCAACUAUUAACACAAACAACAUAGAUUUUAGCCUAUUACAAACCAAACUGAUAUAUCACCCCUAGUAGUUGUAAUUUCCUUCAUUAAUCUCCCUCCCAUUUCCACAUCUCUUUUCUGACACAACCCAUAAAAAAAAUAAAAAAAAAAUCAUGACAUUUGAGUCUAGAUAGGAGAAAGCACAAAUCUCAGUGCACAAAAAUUUGAUUUCAAUCAUUCACAAAAAUUUAAUUUUAUACAUGGUAAAACAUUAUAAUAGUAAAAUAACAAAUUGAGAAGAACUUCCUAGGAAAAUAUAAUCAAAGGAAAACAAGGUAAUCAAAAGACUCAUAUAAUUUUUUACUUCCAUUUUCUAAGUAACUAAAUAGAAAUGUGGCAAGGAAAGUAUCUCUAACUAUGGAUGUAAAGAGUCAUUGUUAAUGAGAAAGGGGUGAGAAUUGGAAUUAUGAAAAGAGUAGAAGAAGACUGCUUGGACUAUGGAGAGUGAAGGAGAAAGAGAAUGCUUGUUGAAAGGGAAAGAGUGGGUUAUUGGGUAACACUUACGGUUAUUUUAGGUACAUUUGAAAAUUUGAAAAUUAUUUUUUAAAUAAUCACCUCUCAAGUGCUUUUCUAAAAAUCACUUCAAGUGAUUUUUUUUCUUUUAAAGGUUUUUAAAAGUGUUUUUGAAAAUUUUUCCAAACAUUUAUUUUUCACCCAAAAACCUCUUUUAAUUAUUCAAAAUGCUAGACGCUCUUCUUAAAAACACUACUAAACAAGUUCUUAAUAAGAUUUUAUUUAUUAUCACAGUUUCUUAGUCUUUAACCAAGGAUAUGUCUAUAUUAUAUAAUAAAAGCAAGGAUAUAAUUUUAUUCUAACUAUUUUUCAACCUUAUUUUCUUUAAAUAUCUACUAAAAUGCCAUUUUAUUAUUGUUCAUUGAUUAACCCAUUAAGAAUGGAAUUACUAUGAUUUCACCCCAACUCCAACUCUCUUUUCUACAAAAAGGAAAACUAAUUUUUUUUAGGAAUAUGUAUGGAAAGGCAAUGUUAUAGAUGUAGUUAUACAUGGAGAUUGAUAGAAGUGAUAGAAGCGGGAUCAUGCUAGGGUUUUAGAGCCAAAGAUGAUGGGUUAGCGAUGAUGGGUCAUAAGGGAAGAGAUGGAGAAGUUAGGAAUUGAGGUUAGAUUUAAGGUUAAGGUUAGGGCUAGGGUUUCAUCAAUGGAUGGUGAUGAAGAUGAAGAUAUGCACAUCCCUUGCAAAAUCUACCAAUAUGAUCCGUUUCUACUACAUAAUCAACUGAAAUUUGAAUCAAUUCUUCUUCUCAAACUAUGAUAAUACGAUUUUAGAUGGUUUUUGAUAAUGAUUUCUUUUCCUCUCAAUGAAACUGUAGAUCAAUUCUAUGUUACAACCCGAAUAAAGGAUCAUUAGGAUCCCUUAAUCUUUAGUUUCUAUUUAGAUUAGGGAAUAAAGGAUCCCUAAGGUCCGUCAAUCUUUAAUUUCUAUUUAGUUUCCUAUAUAAAAUAAGAAGAGCAUAAUGAGGAAAGAAAUGGAAAAAUAAUCUCAGUAAGAAAAAUUUGUUCUCUCAAUUUUGCAUCUUCUCCUUGAGUCAUAAGAAUUGGUAUUAGAACACGGUCUUGGCACUAAUCAUGGCGAAAGGGACUAGAGCGUAAGAACAACAUAGACUUAAAGAUACUAUUAAACAGUUGAAAGAAACAUUGGAUAAACAAGUGACUACCUUAUUAGAACUAUCAAAGAUGGUUGCAACCAUAAACUUGAAAUUCAAACACAUGAAUUCAAGGAUAGAAAAGUAAAGUAAUGGGUAUAAUGCUUCAAUCAAUAAAAGCAUGAUAGACUAUCACUCAUAUGUCAUAAACUCCAUUCAAACCAGGUUUUCCAAACUCAAUUUUCCAAAAUUUGAAGGUGAGAAUUGGGAAUUAGGAAAAGGUUGGAUUGGCUUCCUUACAUUUAAAACAAAGGGCCUUAAAAAGGUUUCAAGGGUGCGAGGCUAGUAACAAGGAAAUCAAUUGGACACUAUUUUAUAUAGAUGUUGUUUCUAGGUUUAGCCCUAGUGUUUAUGAUAGCCUUAUGGGGCAAAUAAUCAAAUUGAAAUAGGUUUCUACAGUUUAGGCAUACCAAAAUUAGUUUAAAGUAUUGAUGACCAAAACUAGUGGGUUAUCAAAGAAUUUUUUUUUUUUGUCUAGUGUUUCAUUAGUAGCUUGAAAAAGGAAAUUAAAAAUCAAGUCACCAUGUUUCAACCAAUCACACUAGCCCAAACCAUCGAGUUAGUCUUGUUGCAGAAAUGAAUAAUGGAGGUAAUUCUCAAGGAAUUCAAGGACUCUAACAAAAGUGGGGAGAGUACAGUGAACUUUACAAGAAUCAUAAUGAAUCAUAAUAACAAAUUACCACCCCUUAAGAAGAUUUUAGCCAUAGAAGUGUAAGAGAUGAAAAAAAAAAUUGUUAUUAUUGUGAUGAGAAGUAUGAUUCUAGCUAUAAAUAUAAAAUGAGUCCAAAUUUUCUAUUAAAUGGUCAUAAAAGUGAAGGGAACGCAACAUCUAAAGCUAAAAAUGAUAUCAAGAGGAUGAUAUUAUGGUUUUAAUCAAUGCAAUAUUUAGUUCACCGUCUCAUCAAACCAUGAGAAUCUAUGACAACAUAAAAAAGAAGGUCGUCACCGUACUAAUUAAUUUAGAAAGCACCCAUAACUUCCUUGAUCUUGUAGUGGCCAAAAGAACAAGCUGCUCAAUACAAACUACCAACCCCAUGAAGGUGGUAGUAACAUAUGGAACUAGAAUUGCUAGUGAUGCAAUUUGUAGGCAAUGUUAGGAUAGAACCCUUAAAAGCAUGACAUAAUGUAAUAAAUUUGGAAUUCAUUAUUUAUUUAAUGAUGUUCCAGUUUCACUUUUAUCUAUCCUUAUUCCAUGUAUUAUACUUUAUAAGCAUUUUUGUCUACAUCUUUUGCAUUGUAUGUGACUUAGGUACAUUAGGAGUUGUAUAGAAGAUCUAAGUCAUGAGUUCUUUGCAAAUAGAUGACUUAUUCACAACCAAUUCAUGGGUCUAGGAAACCCAUUAGAGGUUGUAGUGCACCACUUCCUAAUUGGAGGGAUGGUUGGUCUUGGCUAUUGGGAUGGGUUUCAUAUGAUGAGUGCACUAGUAUGUAUGAAUGCACAUUGGACAGGACCUAUGAUGAGUUAUGACUUAAGGCUAUCAAGUAGUCAUGAUUUCACCAAGUUGCUUCAUUAUGUUGUUUCUCAACCUUGAGAGAAUAUUAAGUUUGUGUUGAAGUUAGCAGUGGCUUCGACCUAUGGGUGAGAUAGUAAGAUGAUCAUAUAUUCCUUAUAGAUUUGAUCACUAUUGAUGGAUGUUGGUAGCAAUAAGUAUUCUCAAUAGAGGCACCAUGAUAUCUCUUAGGAAUAAGAUAGUGUGUCCUUUUGGGUGAUCCUAAGAAGGUGUGUUCAUGGAAACUGUGGCCAUAGUAGUUCCUUAGGUGGAACUUGGCAUAAGCUCUUUGAGAGCUAAGAUAUGUCAAUUUAACACACAAUAAGAGGAUUUGUAACUCAAGAAUGGCAGAGGUAGUAUUAAAAGACUGAUUGCUUUCACCUUGUUAGACUAUAGGCACUAAUUCAUGGGAGGACUGAACACAAUGGAUACUAGGUCACGGACCCAAGCACUUGGUGUAUCAUUGCUAUUUACAUAGGAUAUUGGAUUUCAGUUGGUUCUCUGUAGUGGGAUGUUGAAUCAAAUUUGGAAUUGGAUUAUGAGGGAACCAAUAUUCUUAUGGGUCCUAGUGUCCUCGCUUUAAGCUUAUAUACCUUGUUGGCACUGAUUAUGAGGGUCAGAUUGGCUUUAGGUUCACUUUUGUACAUAAGGACAUUUUGGUAAUCAUGCAAGAUUGCACAAAGGUAAGUGAACAAGGUUUUUGGAUUGGGUUAAUUGAUUAAUUAGGAGGCCCUAUUGGGUUAACUAAUCAAUUAUGACCCAUUUUGGGCUAGAUUAAGUGACCCAAUCCCUUAGUGGACUCAAGUCACUUAAGCCUAGUAGGAAACCCUACAAAUACCCCUUUAGGGGUUAGGGUUCAUAUUGCUUUUUCUAGAGAUCCAUCUUCCAUCCUUAGAGAGAGAGAGAGAUUCAUAGCCUUUAGUCUUCUUUCUAUUCCCACCGGAAGUGUGUCAAUAUCAAGUUUUGACUCAUCAAGCGGAAGACUUUGGGUUUAAGAGACUUCUAAGAUUUUGUUCUUCAUCUUCACCAUGUGGAUUUGAUUUAGGAACAUCCGAAUCUAAGGUAUGGCUUUUGUUAACACUUUCUGAAUCCCUUUAAAGUUUAAAAAUGUUAUUUUUCCUUUGUACAUAGGAUUUAGAAAAAGCCUAGGAUAGUUAUGCAUGUUCCUAACCUGAUCCGAGCUUAGGAAAUGGAGAGAUUCGAGUUUUCCCAUUAGGCAGUUGACAUGAAACAUGUAAGAGAAGAAAUUUUAGACAUAUUUAAGGCUCAUACCUUUGAGUGGGUGCGAUAUGGUAUUGGGAAUUCAAUGGCUAGCUGAAUUGGGACUCAUAUUGUGGGAUUUCAAGAAUUUAAAAAUGGAAUUUAUUAUUGAUGGGAGGAAAUUCAUGUUGAAAGGUGCAACUAUAGGUUCCAAAAAUUUAGUUUCAACAAAUCAAAUUCAAAAGGAUUUAAGGCAUAUGUAUCAAGCAUCUACCAUUCAAAUUUUCACUAUACAAAGGAAUAAGGAAAAUAAAGUUGAAAAGGAACAACAUGGCAACUGUCCAACUCAUUUCCAAGAGAUGUAACAUGGAAAGAUGCUUACAAGAUUCAAUAAAAGUUUCCGUAGUUUCAACCUUGAGGACAAGGCUUCUUUUGAUGGGGGAGGGAAUGUUACAGCCCCAAAUAAAGGAUCCCUAGAAUCCCUUAAUCUUUAGUUUCUAUUUCUACUUAGUUUCUAUUUCUAUUUGGUUUCUAUUUGAUUGGGGAAUAAAGUAUCCCUAAGAUCCCUCAAUCUUUAGUUUCUAUUUCUAUUUAGUUUCCUAUAUAAAAUAAGGAAAGUGUAAUGGAGAAAAACAUGAAAAAAAUAAUCUGAAUAAGAAAAAUUUGUUCUCUCAAUUUUUCAUCUUUUCCUCAUAUCAUAAAAUUCUAAAUGUGGAUUUUCUCCUUUUGAAGCUCUAUAUGAUACGAAAUCAAUUCUCUUUUACUCUAAUUCCAAGUAUGUAUUUAUCGAAAGGGGUAUGCUUUGACUCUCAAUGAACACAUUUUCUCAAAUUUUCUUCAUAGCUAAGUGGAAAUAACAUAAGGCAGUUAAACUUGCUUUGAGAUUAAUUGUGGUUUUGACAAGCAUUUCAUCUAUAAUUCAUUUAUACAAAAUUUUAUUUCAAAGUUCAAAUAAUCAUUUGAAUUUUACAUUUAAAUUUUAUUUUUAAAUUUAAGACUUAAUUAUUUUGUAAUUAGAGUACUUGUCAUAAAAUUGAAGCUCAUAUAUAUAUAUAAAUGCUUCCACUUUCGUACCUGUCAUAAAAUUAGAGCCUACUUUUUUUUAUUUUCUUUUGUGUGUUUAUAAACGUCUCCAAUUCCAUAUCUAGCUAUGAUAUAUUUUUGUAGAUGAUUGUGAUUGAAGUAUAAUUUCUUUUGAUUUUAAUUUUAUAAGAAUUAAAAGUCUUAUCUAAAUUUGAUUAUUAUUCUAGUUUUCUAAAAGUUCAGAGUAUUACAAAGAAACUAUUGAGUAGAAAGAUGUUUCCCUCCAUACAUAUCUAAUUAAAAAAAAAACCACAAAGAAAAAAAAUUAUUAUUCAUCUGUUGUGUUAGUGCAAAAUAUGAAAAAGAAGACAGAAGCGUGCAUCUUCACUGUGACUGAGGAUCAAAUUCUCUUUGAGAUUGAUAUAAAUUAUUUAUAGCUUCAUUGUUCGUGGAGAGUUGAUUCAGUAGUGUCUUCCAUUUGAAGACAUACAGAAAUGGUAAGAAUUAUUUAUUAAUAUGAAGAGAUAACUUGCAUCUAUGACCCUCAUACUCCCAUGAACUUUGAUCUUAUAAACAUAGUGGGCUUGUUUUAUUUAUAAAAUAUAUAUGAAAAGAGAAUAUAAAAAAAUUAUUUUCAUGGGAAGUGUAUUUUGGAAAAAAUAAUUCUCACUUGAUACAUUGGAAAAGUGCCUACCUCAAAUUACCCAAAAAUGACGUUAUAUGUGUACAUGUGUCAUCAUCCAUACUAGCCCAACUUACAUGAGGAUGGUACAUCAUUCAACCAACAAAGGUACUUUAAGCUCAAAACAAUGGUACAUUAUAAUCAAAACAAUGUUACUUUAAUAUCAAAAUACAUGUAAGGACAUUUUCGGGUAAUGUGAGGUAAAUACUAUUCUAAUACAUUAAAUAAGAAUUAUUUUCCCAAAAAUGUACUCCACAUGAAAAUGACUUUUGUGGGUUUUCUUUUAUUUAUAUUUUAUAAAUAGUACAUGUUUACAUAAUUCCCUCAUAAAUAUAAUACAAUCAUCUAUACCUGAUAAUUAAGGAAAUCGAAAAUAUUUACAUACUAAGCAAGGAUAAUGGAAAUUAAAGAGUAUGUCAAAAGAGAAGAAAAAUACUAAAGAUAAAUUAAAACUCUAAAAUACAAGCCUUCAUUUGCACAUAUAGGCUAAUAUCUUAGGAGGUAUUUGAUUAAAUAAUAAUAAUAAUAAAAAAAAUAAUAAUAAUAAUGAUUAAAAAAUGGAAAAAAUUAUGAGUCCCAUUUUUUAAGUGUUUUCAAUAACAUAAUUAUAAACCCCUUAAAAUUUAAAAUCAUUUAUUUAAACCACUUUAUUCAUUUAGCAACAAGGACUUAAUUAAUCACUAAGAUCAAACAUAAUGAUUUAUAUUUUUUAUAAUUUAAUUUUUUUUUCCAUUUUAAUAAAAUGAAGAUUACUAUUAAUAAAACAAAUUAUUAUGAAAUAAUUUUGUUCAUUAUAAAAUUUAUCUUUCUUUUCUAAAUCAGAAUUUUUGUCAUGUCCAUUCAUAUAAUAAAAUUAAAAUUAUAAAUAAAAAAACUUAUUUUAAUUGACAACACCAUGGAAUCUCUCCAUGCACACUCAUGCAGCCAUCAGUUCCCACGGCAACCAUGUGUCUUCCAACAAGUAUAUUUGCUUUCUUUGGCCCUCCAUGUGUUUGUGUUCUAUUUUUAUUUAUUUAUUUUAUCUUGAUUAGUAGUUCACUAAACAAGCAUGACAAGGAUAUGAGCAGAUAUGUCAUGGCUAUGAUCACUUCUAACACUUAACCCUCUUAAACUAAGUGAAGUAUGAAUGCAGUAUGCAAGUCUAAAUAAUGGUGAAAGAAUAAAAACAAAGGAGAAUGCAUGUAAGAUGUAUAUAUAACUAUAAAUAAGGAUUCAAAAUGAAGGGAAAAAUCAUCGAGAAGGGUGAACCAUGGGUGAUAAGCCACUUCAAGGUUCAUCCUUUGGAUAAAUAUUAAAAGUUAAAGAGUAUAAAAAGUCUACACAUGUCGUCAUUUUUUUUUUCACUUUUAAGUUAAAUAUAUUUUUAUUGUUAUAAAUGAAGUAAUGAAUGCCACCACAUUUAUUAUAUUAAAUGUUCAUUAAAAGCCUAUAAAAAUGUUUCUUAUGUAAAAUGCUUCCCAAGCAAAGAAAGAAAUUCUCUUUUCUUAUUCUCUCUUUUUCUUAUUCUCCAUAUCUUUCAUUCUUUCAACUCUCUUAAUUCUCUUUUAUGAUUCCUUCCUCUCCAUUAUAUAUUAUUAUUUAAAUAAUAUGUAGUUGUUCUCUACUUUUAUUUGGGUUGCAUUUAUCCCCUUUUUACAACAUGUUACCAGCACGAAUUGUUCUUAAGGUAAUUCUCAUAUCUUAAACUUGAAGUUAUUUACAUAGAAUAAAAAGCUAUAAGCAAAUUAUUUGAUUUUGAUUAUAAUCAAAAGUUAUACCAAUGCUAUUAAUUUAUAACUAAUUCUAGUAAUAUUUUUUUAACAUAUAUCUAAAGUUAUUUGACAAUGUCAAAUCUCACAAAACUCGAAUUUGUGGCACUUGACAUUUCAGGAAAGAACUAUCUAUCUUGGAUCCUUGAUGCUGAAAUACAUCUUGAUGCAAUGAAUCUUGGAACUACGAUCAAAGUAGGAAAUCAAGCAUCCUUAUAGGAUCACACAAAAGUGUUGAUUUUUCUUCGCCAUCAUUUCUAUGAAGGUUUUUAAAAUGGGUAUCUUAUAGUAAAGGACGUUUUUACUCUAUGGAGUAAUUUGAAGGAAAGAUAUGACCACUAGAAAAUUGUGAUUUUCCCAAAAGCUCGAUAUGAUUGGAUGCACUUAUGGUUGCAGGAUUUUAAAACAAUUAGUGAAUAUAACUCUGCACUUUUCAGAUUCAGCUCUCAAUUAUAGCUGUGUGGAGAAAAAAUCACAGAAGAAGACAUGUUAGAUAAAACUUUACUACAUUUCAUGCCUUAAAUGUGCUCUUAUAGCAGUAAUACCUAGGGUGUAGAUUUAUAAAAUACUUUGAACUAAUAUCAUAUCUUCUUGUUGCUGAACAAAAUAAUGAGCUUUUGAUGAGAAAUCACUAGUCUCAUCCAAUUGGAUUUGAACCAUUCCUUGAAGUGAAUGCAAUAUCGUCUCAAACUCGUAGACGUGGAUGAGGACAUGGUCGUGGUUGUGGAAGGCAUCCCUAAUAUAAUGGUUAUUGUGGUAAUAAUUCCUCAAAUUCUCAUAAAAGGAAAACUUCAUUGCACCACCGAAAGUGGAAUAAUACUGAGGCAAAACAAGAAAAUGGGAAGUGUUUACAAGAUAAACCUCCCAAGAACCAUGAGAAUGAUUGUUAUAAAUGUGGUAUGAAGGGCCAUUGGUCCCAUACCUAUCGUACACUCAAACAUUUGGUCGACCUUUACCAAGCAUCAAUAAAAGCAAAAAGAAAAAAUGUAGAGAUGAACUUUACCAAUGGUGAUGGAUUGGACCUAACCUACUAUGACAUUGAUAUGACAUUGAUUUGUUUGGAGGUCCUAGUGAAAAAACAAACCAUUUAAUAAAUGAUGAGAAUGCUAACAUUGAUUGGUGUUACUUUAUAAAUCAAAUAAUAUAUUAUUAUGUCUUAUAUUUAUAUCUUAUUAUUACAUUUUCUUUUAUAUUGUUAUUUAUAUUAUGUGUUGUUUUUUUAAUAUUAGUUGUAUCUAAAAUCCACGUGUUAUUUGGUCUCAAGAUGAAUGAGGAUGAUGUAUGUCUCAUAAGAUUAUGAAACCACACACACAAUUCUUCGAGAUAAAAGAUAUUUCCUUGAAUUAACAUUGAUAAAAGCUAAUGUAAGUACCAUAUCUAGUACUACAAACUUAGUAGAAGGCUCUAGAAGAGCAAACAUAAUGCUACCAAAUGGAACUAGAUUUCAUAUAAAUGAUGAUUUAUAUUAUAGCAAAUCCAAAAGAAAUUUGCUCAAUUUUAAAGAUAUCCGUAAAAAUGUAUAUCAUAUUGAAACUAUGAAUGAAGAUAAUGUAAUUAUCUUUACAUUACUUCCAUUAUAUUUGGGCAAAAACUUAUAAUAGAAAAACUCUCGGCUUUCUCCUCCAGGUUGUAUCAUACAACUAUAAAGCCUAUUGAAUCACAUUUUUUUGUGAACCAAAAGUUAAACUACCUAAAAGUUUUUGUCCUUUGGCAUGACAGACUAGGUCACCUAGGGUUUUCAAUGAAGCAUCAAAUAAUCGAACACUCACAUGGGCAUCCACUAAAGAACCAGAAGAUUCUUUUGCCCAAUGACUACUCAUGUGUUACUUGCUAACAAGGUCAAUUGAUAGUCAGAUCAUCUUUUACUAAAGUCUAUCCGAGUCACUAGUCUUUUUAGAAAGAAUACAUAGGAACAUAUAUGGGCCUAUCCAUCCACCAUGUGGACCAAUUCGUUAUUUUAUUAUCUUAAUAGAUGCUUCGAUUAGAUGGUCACAUGUUUGUCUUCUUUUUACACAUAAUGUUGCCUUUGCUAGACUCCUUUCACAAAUGAUCAAAUUAUGGGCACAAUUCCAAGGUUAUCCAAUUAAGACAAUAUGUCUUGACAAUGUUGGCAAAUUUACUUCUCAAACAUUCAUUGACUACUGUCUAUCAAUAGGGAUACAUAUUGAGCAUCUUGUUGCUCAUACUCAUACCCAAAAUGGUUUAGCAAAAUCCUUCAUCAAACGUCUCCAAUUAAUAGCUCGACCAUUACUAAUGAAAACCAAAUUACCUACUUCUGCCUGUGGACAUGUUAUUAUGCAUGCUGCAGCUUUAGAUCAUAUUCGACUUAAAACUUACCAUGAAUACUCCCUUUUACAACUCCUACUUGGAAAAAAACCAGAUAUCUCUCACUUACGAAUCUUUGGUUAUGUAGUAUAUGUACCAAUUGCACCCACACAAUGCACUAAAAUGGGUUCCCAAUAAAGACUCGGGAUUUAUUUAGGUUUUAAUUCUCCAUCUAUCAUAAGAUAUUAUUAGAAAAAUUAGGUUAAUCCAACCUAAGGUAAUCAUCCUAAAAUGGGGGGAGAAGGGAGUGAAUAGAGUGAUGGUCUCUUUUUGAAAAUUUAAAUUAUAUGAAUGCAAAAGACUAUUGUAUGCAAAUAUAUAAUAAAACAAUAUAAAGACAAUUGCAUAUAAAGUAAAAGAGUGGGGAAUAGAGAAAGCAAACAUAAGCUUUUUAUAGUGGUUCAGCGUAACCCAACCUACAUCCACUCUCAUCUAGCUUCAAUCCCAAGCUUGAGAUUCUACUAUUUCAAGGCUUCCAAACCAAGACUUCAAGCAAUACAAUUGGAUUAUAGUUCUAAUCCACUUUCUUGGACUUUUGGCCCCAAGCACCCUUUACAAUCCUUAAGAGAUACCCCACUCUUGAACAAUCCCUCAAGUGAUACCCCACACUUGAGAAUCCUUAAAUGAUAUCACACACUUAGGCUUUUCUUCUCAAAGAUUUACAAAUGAAGAUAGGAUUGAAAGGUGCACUAAUGAUAUGAAAGUUUUAAAACGUUGAUGCACUUAAAAACACCCUCCCAAGGCUCAAAUAUAUUCAAGAAGGGUUUUGGAAAGUUAAGCUCUUGAAACAAUGAAGAUUGAAGCCUUUUUAUAGAGGAAAACGACUAAACUAGUCGUUGGGAGUUUGACUGAUCGAGCUGAGGGUUGAUCGAUUGACUAGCCGUUAGCCGCAUUUAAUGCUUGGUAGAGGACCAUUGGACCUUGAACCCCCUUGACCGGACCUUGACUGUUUGAACAAGCAUUAUGGAAGAGAGAGAAGGUUUUUGCACCCUUCGACUGAUUAAGCUGAACAGGUCAACCGGUUCCUCAUUUGGUUCAACCGGUUGUGUCAUUUUUGGCUCAACAACCAUCAUUUUCAACUUAAAGCCUUUUAAACAAGUUUACAAAAAUUUGACACAAGAUUUUAGUUGAAAACAUGAAAUCAUGCAAUUUUAAAGGAUUUAAUAAAAAAUUACUUUUGGAUGAUUUUGCUGCAUAAAUUAAUAAUGUAAUACAUAAAAGACCUAGUACACCAACAACCUUAUAAAGAGAUCCUAUAAAGUUUAGGUCUUGAAAAACACUUCUCUUUGAGGUCUUUUUUUUCUUAAUGAUUUCUCUUUGGUUUGAUUUUGUCUUUUUGAUUGCCACUUUGGAAAUAUUCUUCCCUAAUCAGACUUGAAAUAUAAUCAUUAGUUCCAAACCUUGUUUUAUUAUCAUCAAAACUGAGAUUAACCAAACUUUGGUUUCACAAAUAUCUUGAACCUUUGACAAAUGAUGUUUUAACAGCCCACUUUGCAGAUUGUCGUUUUAAUAAGAGUGUUUUCUUGUCAUUAGGGGGAGAAAAAUCGAUUCCUGAAGAACAGUGGCAAAUUACUUGGAAUGCAUCUACUAUAUCCCAUCUUGAUCCUCAUACAAAUCAAUGUGAACUCGAAGUUCAAAGGAUCGUUUAGUUGCAAAAUCUUGCAAACCAAUUACUAGAUGCAUUCAUUAAUACAAAGAAAGUGACAAAGUCACAUGUCCCAGCUACAAAUACUUUAGCAUGGAUUGAUAUCCCUGAAGGAUAGCUACUAAAUGAAUCUAAGAUACGCUUGAAGCGUGGUAGACUUGUUGGCUCGAAUGAUGUAACUUUUGGAAGAGGAGAACACAAGAAAAACUUUGCACUUUAGAAGAGGUCAUUAAAAUGACUGAUCAGUUUAAAAUUGAUAAGUCUAUAGCCCUAAAAGAGGCACAAAUAAUACAAAAAACCCUUGAAAAGGCACAUAUUGAACAAGAAGGCCCUAAAAAAGUACAUAUUGAACAAGAAGCCCUUAAAGAGGCACAUAUUGAACAAUGAACCCCUAAAAAGGCACAUAUUGAACAAGAAGCCCUUGAAGAGGCACAUAUUGAACAAGAAGCCCUUAAAGAGGCACAGGUACCUGAAAAUUGAGAGAUCUUAUUAAGUUAUGUACACAUAGGAGAAAAAUGGGAUCUAAAUAAUAUUGCUAUUAAUAAUAUUUUUGCUUUCCAAGUGGCUCUUGAUAUCAUAAGAAAUGAUGAAGAUCCCGAACCACAAAAUGUGGAAGAAAUGCCGACAUAGAAAUGAUUGGCCAAAAUGGAAAGAAGUUAUGCAAACAGAGUCAAACUUAUUAACAAAACAAGAAGUUUUUUGACUUGUACUCCAAACACCUGAAGAUGUAAAGCCUGUUAGGUAAAAAUGGGUAUUUGUAUGAAAUUAUAAUGAGAAUAAUGAGAUCAUAAGAUAUAAAGUGUAAUUAGUAGCACAAGUUUUCUUUCAAAGACCAGGUAUUGACUAUAAGGAAACAUACUCUCCCAUCAUAAACACAAUCACAUUUCAUUUCAUAAAUAGUUUGGUAGUCUCAUAAGGAUUAGAUAUGCAUCUCAUGGAUGUUAUUACAACAUAUUUAUAUGGAUCCAUAGAUAAUGAUAUAUACAUGAAAAUCCUUGAAGGAUUUAAAUUGCCUGAAACAAAUAGUACAAAGACUUGUAAUAUUUACUCAAUCAAGUUACAACGAUCCUUAUAUGGAUUAAAGAAAUAUGGAUGCAUGGGGUACAAUUGCAUUAGCAAAUAUUUGCUAAAAUAAGGGUAUGUGAAUAGCACCAUAUGUCCAUGCAUCUUUAUUAAGAAAUUAGAAACUGGAUUUGCAAUUAUUUCACUGUAUGUUAAUGCCUUAAAUCUUGUUGGAACUCCUGAAGAGCUCAUAAGAACAAAAAAUUACUUAAAAAAGGAAUUUGAGAUGAAGAAUCUAAACAAAAUUUUCUAUUAGUCUGCAAAUCGAGCAUGUUCCAAAUGGAGUUUUAGUACAUCAAUCAACAUACAUUAAGAAAAAUUUGAAGCAUUUUUAUAUGAAUAAAGUGCAUCCUUUAAGUUCUCUAAAAGUUGACUGAUCACUUGAUGUGAAAAAAGACCCAUUUCAACCUUGCAAAAAAUUUGAAGAAUUACUUGGUCUUGAAGUACCAUAUCUUAGUGAUAUUGGUGCACUUAUAUAUCUUACCAAAUUUACAUGUCUAGACAUUGCUUUUUCUAUCAAUUUAUUAUCAAGAUACAUUUCUACUCCAACUCGAAGACAUUGAAAUGGUAUCAAACAUAUAUUGCGUUAUCUUUGCAGAACUACUGAUGUGAGUCUAUUUUACUCAAGGGAAUCAAAAAAAAUUUGCUUGGAUAUAUAAAUGCAGGAUACUUUUCAGAUCCACAUAAAGGUAGGUCACAAAUAGGGUAGAUGUUUAAUUGCAAUGGUACUACUGAUUACUACUCAAAAAGUGCUAUUUGAUAGCUUAUAAUUAAUCCUUUUAAACACUUUUGAGUAGUAGUUUUCGCCUUUUAACUCAAUUGGCAUGUUAAGGACCCUUGAAAGCAAUUUUAAUCACUUUGUGUAAGUUUUGGUGUUGUUGUUAGUAAUUUGAUCACCAAAGCAAUCCAAUAUUGAGGAGAGUUAUGUGGAAUCUAGGACAAAGCUUGGAAGUCCUUUGCCAAGAGUAAAUCCGGAAUGCAAGGAGAAGAAGUAAAGAGAAUCUGCCAUGAAGCAUAUUCUUGAUGACAGUCGUGGUAGCCACUUUUGGAGCACUUUCUGAAGUCCAAUUGAUGCAUGCUAUAUACCAUUUCAAAGCUUAGGAAGUUAAAAAUCCAAUGCUUCAAACGGUACACAAUUCGGAGUUGAAACGAAGAAGUUACAGCCAUUGCAAGCAGAUCACUCCAAGCUGAAAGAAGCAUUUUGCAAAGUGUUGCGAAAUCACCCUUUUGUUGCGAAGUGAUUUCGCAGCCUUUUUGUACAGUAUGGUGUAUUUCCUCCUGAAGUUGCCCAAUAUAUGCCGCAAGCUAGAAGCUGGGAACCUCAAGAUGGAAGCCAACUUCGCAGCCCUGCGAGAAUAGCCUUUUGCUGCGAAGUGAUUUCGCAGCCCUUCUUGAGUGUCUGCGAAAUCUCACAGACACCAUUUUCUCUUGCGAAAUGGUCCCUGGAGCAUCCUGAUAUUUGCUACCGACAUUGGGAGAUAUUUUACAUCAGAUUUUUGUUGUCUAAAUCCCAAAAUACUCCUUGUAAGCCACCAAUUACAAGAUUCCUUAGCUUUUAAGUUAGUCAAAAGAGAAAAUAUCUAUGUAAUAAUUAGUUUUAUAUUAUGUUCAUAUAAAUACCUCUCGGGAGCCUAUUCUCAGAGAGGAGGACCCUUUGUAAAGUUUUGAAAAGCAAGUAAAGUUCAGGCCUUUGUUUUGCCUUACCUUCUCACUUUGUAUUAUUUAUUUCUUACUAAGUUAUGCACUCUUUGAGGAAUUUUCCCCAGAGAAUGAGUAACUAAACCUCUAGUUCCUUGGAGCUAAGGUUGCCGGGGAAGGUUCCAAGUGCAAGAAUGCAAAGCUUUGUGGUUUCAGCCAUCAAUGAAGAGGAAGUGAAAUCCUUUAGUGAUUUCUAUGUUUUUAGUUAACUUAAAACACCUUAGAGUCACCUGGGCCAACACUUGGUAAGGCAAGUGAUUUCCAACCAUGGAGAUGCACUAGUUUACCCCUUGUGAGCCUCUGGGAGGUGACUUUAAGGUAGGAUUUUCUGGAAUUGCCAACACUUGGUAAGCUUUUGGACUCCAAGGAGACAUCCAUUAGUUAUCUCUUGCGAGCUUGAGAAGGGAAGUCCAAGGUUAAAGAUCACCUUGAAUGGUUAAGGCUUAGUGAGAGGUUUGAACCAUUGCAAGUUGCAUCAGUGAGAGAAUUAAAGCUGAAAUCUAAUUGAAGGAUGUAUCUGUACAACACCGGUUAGAGAAUUAACUAUAUGUUGAAUCUCUAAAACGAGGAAAUGAACCAUCUGACCGGAGCCAUGUCUUUUGCAUGAGGAACCACCCCAGUGAACCUGACCCUCCAAGGAAUGUUUUUCUUCCUAAGUUAUUCCCAUUACUUGUUUUGUUAGUUAGUUUAAAUCUAAAUCUUUACCAAUUAAAGUUUGUGUUUUAGUUCUUAAGCUAACCUUGAAAUGAAACACUACCAAUUCACUUUGAAUUGAUAUCAUUGAUAAUUUGGAAACCCUUCCCAGUGAACGAUCCUAGAGCCGCUAUACUAUAGUAGCUUUUUCUUUGCUACCCUAGUAUAUGGUGUAAUAGGUUAUAAAUUUUGUUGAUUACUCCCUCAUCCAAGGAGCACCAGCUGGACACGAAUCAGCUGAGACACCAAUUAGGCAUGAAUCAACUAUUAUUUCAUGUAGAUCUAUCAAACAAACAAUGAUGACCACAUUAUCAAAUCAUUCAGAAAUACUUGCAAUUCAUUAAGCAAGUCGUGAAUGUAUAUGACUAAGAUCUAUGAUCCAAUAUAUUCGAGAAUCAUGUAGACUCUCCUCUAUCAAAAGUGACCCGACAAUAUUAUUUGAAGAUAAUGUUGCAUGCAUUGAACAAAUAACAAGGGGUUAUAUUAAAGGAGAUAGAACUAAACACAUUUCAUCAAAAUUCUUUUAUACAUAUGAACACUAGAAGAGUGGUGAAAUUGAUGUGCAACAAAUACACUCAAGUGAUAAUCUAGCAAAUUUAUUCACAAAGUCAUUGCCAACCUCAACAUUCAAGAAGUUAAUACACAAGAUUGGAAUGCGUCAACUCAAGGAUAUUGACAUGAGGGGGAGUAUGCUUGUAAAAGGGUAUUAGUGUAUUGUACUUUUUUUCCCUUCAUCCAAGUUUUGUCCCAUUGGGUUUUACUAGCAAGGUUUUUAAUGAGACAGUCGUAACAUAUCAAGAGCAACUUAAAGAAUUAUCAGAGUAUUAUGGUGGACAUCCAAGGAAGAGUAUUAUAAAUGAAGUAAUGAAUACCACCACAUUUAUUAUAUUAAAUGUUCAUUAAUAUUAUUUAUGACUUCCAUUAAUAUUCAUUAAUGGAAGCCAUUUGGAAAGCCUAUAAAAAGGCUUCCCAUCUCCUGUAAGAUGCAUCCCAAGGAAAUAUAGAAAUUUUCUUUUAUUCUCUAUGUCUUUCAUUCUUUCAACUCUGUUAAUUCUCUUUUUUGAUUCCUUCCUCCCCAUUAUAUAUUAUUAUCAAAAUAAUAUAUAGUUGUUCUCCAUUUUUAUUUGCAUUGCAUUUAUCCUCGAUUUACAACACUUAUUUUGUUCUUUUCUCUAUUUUAUUUUAUUUUUUUCUCUUCUAGUUAUUAUAAUUAUAAUUAUUAUUAUUAUUAUUAUUUUAUAAACAUAAUAUAACCCAUCAAAUAAUAAUAAUAAUAAUAGCAAUAAUAACACAUAUAUAAAUAAUAUAAUAAUUAAUUUAAAAUUUAUGUUUCAUUAGUUAUUAUUAUUGUUAUUAUUAUUUCAAUUUUUUUUUAAAUAUUAUAUAUAACUUAUACAAUAAUAAUGAUAAAAUAAUUUUACGAAUACUGUUUCAUUCAUGUAUUAAAGACAAAGUUUUCUUAUAAAAACUUUUAUAAAUUUUCAAAUGUUUUUUACAAUAUGAUUAUUAAGAAAAUAUUACAAUAAAAAAUUAUUAUUGAUAAUUAUGAAAAAAAGAAAAUUAAAGCAUGUGUUAUCGUAAUUUUAGUGUAUUUAUAUUAUAAUUUCAAUGCAUAACCAUGACACAUACAUUUUGCAACGAACUUAAUAGUGUUAGAAGCAUUGUCGUAUCCUACUAUAUUGAUUUCUAUAUUAGUAAGGCAUCCCAAUGAAUUAGCAUCAUAUACUAGAUGCAUUCUUAUUAGCAAUAAUUCUUAUAAUGAAACUCAUACACCUUAUAAAAAAAAUGUCUUAUAAGGUUAAUUUACAGUAGAUGAAAUGUUAAAAAAAUAUAUAAAAUAUAUGACAACCAUUCAUCAAUGCUUGUUUAAAAGGAAAAUUUUAAAAUAAAGUUAGGUUAUGCAGUAAUGUAUAAGACAUUUAAAGUAUUCAUGUUGUAAGAUCAAUAUAUUUUUGUCGUAUGUAUAUGUUGCCUUUUAUAUUAAUACAUAAUAUCAGUGUACUAUCAUUAUACAUUUAAUGAAUCAUUAUUAUGUAUGAUUUUUAUAAUAAAGCCUAUAAGUUUUAGGAAUUAGAUGGAAAAAAGAUUAUAUCCUAAGAUUGGUUUAUAAUCAAUGACAUUAUAAUAAUAAAAAUAUGAAUAAUAUAAAACUAAUAUCAUAAAUAAUAAUAUUAAUAAUAUGUUAACAAUGAUGAUAAUAAUAAAUGUAUAAUUAUAAUUUUUUUAAUAAAUAAUAUAGUUAGUCUUAACAUAUAGUAAAUAAAGCACAAAAGGUAGAAAAGAAAAGUAGAAAAGUAAAGUUAUAUGGGAGUAGAAGGAAAAGACAAAAUGAUGUAAUUGGGAUUAUGGAAUGAUCAAAUUAUCAAACUAUAACUUGUGGAUUUGAGAAGACUUUGAGACUUGGUGACCCUUAAGGGAGCUUAUCACCACUUUGAGCUGGGUGACCAUUUUUUUAAAAAAAAUUGAAAAUAAAUCCCAUGAAAAAAUUUGUUUAUAAAGAAUAAUAAUAAUUUUGUAUUUUUUUUAUACAAACUAGAUAUUUAAUUUAUUAGAAUAAUUUUGAUGGUAAUGACAAACAAAAUAACUCUAUAAAUAGGUGAAAUAAUUCAUUUUCUCAAUUUUAUAUGCAAAAUUAUUUUAAAACGAAAGGGAUAAUACAUUAUUUUUGUUCAUCAAUCCACAUUUUGACUUUCAUUUUAAAACCCAUCUAUAAAAAUCUCUCUUUAUAUAUAUCUGCCUAGAUUGCCUAAUCAUCUAUUCAUUCAUCGUCUAUAACUUCUUGCCUGAUUAUCAAUUUAGAUGUUCAUAUUUGCAUAUAUUUAUUCAUUCCACCAUGUAUUUUGUUGGCGUAUUUGUAAUGUAUACAAUUUUGAUGAAAUGUUUGAUUAUUUGAAAACCGAAUUUCCCCUUACCCAGUAAUAAAAAGCGAGUAUAAGUCUGACCAAGAGGGGUGUUCUUGGCCUUGGCCGGUGGCCUUCCUGAUAAGUCACCUUAGCCGUAGACUAUAUUUAGAUUUUGCAAUUAGUACCUUUCUUUUCCUUCUAGGAAUGACUAUCAUCUUGACCAAUCUAGCCAUGUACCAAAAAGUCAAUUUUGCCAAGUUUAAAAAGUUUGCUUUAAGCCUGUUCAUCAUAGUUGACAGAAGUUGGAAUUACAAUGAAAUAUCUAGGAGAAAAUGUCCGCAGGAGCAGAGAGAGAGAGUGAAGGCAAUACAUUCAGUCAUGAAUUUGAUGCAAAUCCCAAAGUACAUAAUUGUGUCGAAUACUCUCACCAUGAUUGUCGAUCUCUCGGAUCAGACGAUUACUAUGUUUGCCAAAAAUGCCUGGGCCGUAUGUGGAAUAAAUCAAUUUCACAAGGAGGGGAAACUGCCAAAUUCCGUACAAGGUCACUGGCAAACAGGUUAAUGCAGCCAAGGUAAUAAGAAUCCAAGCCUUCUUUUCACCAAAGUGAAGAUAGAUUGCGCUACUGUAGGCUAUCAUCAUGAAUGUUACGGAGAGGAAUAGAGUAACAAGGCCAAAUAUCAACCUCCUGGGAAGGACAAAAAGAAAAUCAUCUUCAGCAUAUCGUGCCGUGAGAAUGGAUAGGAAUAUCAGCACCGAAGCAAUGGAUAGGAAGAGGGAAAGAGCAUCCGAAACUGCAAAAAAUUUGAAGGUAUAUUCUUCGGAGAAAUUUGGUAUGCCAGUAUCAUCAUGGUUGCCACCCGGGAUGGAAAUUGCUGCUGCAAACACUACAGUAGCAAUAAGCGCUGCUGCCAAUGUGUAAGAUUUUGCUGUGCCUUUCAUCCAUUUCUCUCCUUCUUUUAUCAACUCUUUAUGUUCCUUUAUAAAUACCAUUUUUGGUGUCUCUUGUUCAUCGUUCUCAAAUUCCCUGAAGGCUUCCGGUGCAUAUUUUUCGAUUUCCUGUGUAAAAAUCAAAAUGUUUCUAAGACACAGAAAAAGAGUGGACAUGUAUAAGAAAAUUAAUUCCCCUUCAAAACAAAAAUUAUUACCUGAAACCAAUGUAACUCACGUUGCAUUUGUAGAGCUGCACCAGAAACGAGACUGAGCCGGUGUGGAGGGGCCAAUUUUCCAGCCAAAUGCAAGAUAUUGUUAUUUGAAUCACCUCUGAUUCGUAUUAUAAAUUGUCUAUGCAUACCGAUUUCGCAGAUGAGGUUGAAAAUCUUUUCAUAACGAUUUAAUAUUGCCAAUUUGAAUACUUCCUCAUCCAGAUACUGAAGUGCAGAAGGAUAUAACUUUAGAAUGUUUUCCAGAAUUUCGGGAAUUCCAUAUUUUGCCCCAUUAAUGAAUGAUUGGCUGAAUAUUUCCUUUGCUCUUGGUACUUCCAAAUCUUCAACUUUAGUACAUAGGUGGUUAAGCAAUUGAAGAGUCUGAGAAUGCAUUGUUUUUGUUUCUUGGAUUUGCUUGAUGGGUGGUACUGCAAUUAAACUUAUAUUAAGGACAACAUAUCAUUGCAUUCAAGACUUUUGCAUGCUUUAGUGGAAGUUUUGUUGUGUCCCUUACCUAACCGUCCAACCAGUUCACAGAAUAUUGCAUUCGCCUUUUGGCAAGCUGUGUGCAGGAUAAAAUUGAAGCAGUUCAGAUGCAAAAGCAGGAAUAACAGAAAAAAAAAAAAGAAAAAAAAAGAAAGAAACAAUCCUGAACAAAGUACCAAUUAAACACUAAUCUAAAUUAAAGUGAUUGUGAGUAGUAGUUGCCAACUCAUAUUGGUUGGUGUAGAGUUUGUGUUUUCUGGCUAUCAUUAAGUUAAUUAAAUAUACGAUGCCAGUUUGCUUGAAUAAAUUAAGUUUCAAGAUUCACACCCUUGAAUUACUUAUGGCCAAUCUGAUAUUCAUCUUCACAUGUACAUGAAUUUGGGGUUUGUUAUGGAAAAAUGAGAAUAGGCAACAAGAAAAAUAAGAACACAUAGAUUUAUGCGAAAAAUCCUAGAUGGGAAAAACCACGGGCAGAGGAGAAAGAUAAUCCAUUAUGUCAAAAAUUGGUACAAAAAGGGGAGUGUAUCAAGUGGCUACUAUAUAUAUCCUUGAAAACCUAUACACCAUUAAAAAUAUAUACAUAUAUGGGAGAGAAAAAAAUAAAUAAAGCAGGAAAAUCCAUAAUUUUUCUUCACCAUAUAUGUUACACCGCAAACUUUUUGGGUUGGACCAAAAAAGGAAAUCGGGUCACCAAGCUCUAACAAUCUCCACCUUGACAUAAAUUCUAAUGUAAGGAAUGAAAAAACAAACUCCAAUCUUCAACCAAAACUCUUCACCUCUUCCACAAACCCUAAAGGGCAACUCAAUAACGAAUACUAACCAAGUCCAAGCAAUGCUCAAACUUUGCUAUAGAGAGUGUCUUGGUUAUCAUAUCAACAGGAUUAUCAUGGUUGCUAACUUUGCCCAUAACAAAGCAAUGAUAUCACGCACAAAAUGAUACCUCACAUCAAUGUGCUUUGUCCUAUCAUUAAACAUUCGAUCUUUUGUGAGGAAAAUAGCACUCUAACUAUGACAAAAAACUGUGGUAAUCUGUAAGUUGUCACUAAGUUCACCAAAUAGUUUCCUUUCAAGCCUUUGUAAUAGCCAUGUACUAAGCCUCUAGUAAACAAAGCAACUGUAAUCUACAAAGUAGCUUUCCAACUAAUAGCACAACUACCAAUAGUAAAAACAUACCUUAUAAGAGAUCUUUUAUCAAGGUCACUUGCAAAAUCAGAAUCGACAUACCCAACAGCUCCAUCUCUAACUCUCCCAAAAUGCAAACAAACAUCAGUAAAGCCACACAAGUAUCUGAACAUCCAGUGAACUACUUUCCAAUGUUCUUUACCAGGAUUUGUCAUGUAUCUACUAACUACACUAACUGCAUAUGAUAAAUAUGAAUGUGAACAAACUCUUAUACUGCUGUCUAGGUGACUUUUUUAAGCCAUAGAGAGAGACUUUUUCAACAAACACACUUAGUCUUUCUUUCCUGAAACUAUAAAACCCUUAGGCUACUGCAUGUAGAUGUCCUCCUUAAGUUCCCCAUGUAAGAAUGUUGUCUUCACAUCCAACUGCUCAAGCCCAAAAUCAUACAUGGUCAUAAUAUCAAGCAAAGCUCGAAUCAAACUAUGCUUUACAUUUGGAGAAAACACAUUAGUGAAGUCUAUACUCGAAAUCUAAUCGUAGCCCUUUACAACUAAUCUCGCUUUAUACCUAGCUUCUUCAACUCUUGGUAUUCCUCCUUUCCUCUUCAACACUCAUUUGCAAUUAAAAAUCUUUUUACCCUUAUUUAGUCUCACUAAGUCCCAUGUGCCAUUUUUAUGAAGUGACCCCAUCUCCUCCUACAUGACAAUCAUCCAUCUAUUAGAAACAUCACAAUUAACUGCCUUUGAGUAGGUAGAAGGUUUUGCACUAGAAUCAAUACCUUUGGCCACAUUUAAGGCAUAAGCAACCUAAUUAGCCUCAAUAUACCUCUGUGGAGGUUUAAUAUCUCUUCUAGUCCUAUCUUUAGCAAUAGAUUAUUGUGGUGAUGGUUGUGGUGGUGAGAGAGCAGCAACACCACUCUUCAUCCCUGAACUAGACUAAGAUGUAGAAUCUAGUAUGGAUCCUAAUUCAAUCUAAAACUCCACCUGUGUGCUUGAUUUCUGUUGCUUUUUUUUUUUUCAUAAGAAUCUCUAAAAGAUAAGUCACAAAGCAUAGCAGUUUCCUAAAAAAUAUCUUUAUUGAUUAUGACUUUAUUUGUUUUUGGACACCAUAACUUAUAUCCUUUAACACUAGACUUGUAGCCAAGGAAGAUAGAUUUUAUAAAUCUAGGUUCCAAUUUUCCAUUAUCAACAUGAGCAUAGGUAGGACAUCCAAAUAUCUUCAAAUUUGAGUAAUUAGCAGAAGUACUAGACCAUACCUCUUAUGGAGUCUUUUUGUCAAUAGCAGUUGAAGAAGAGCAAUUAAUGAGAAAACAAUCAAUAGUGGUAGCUUCAACCCAAAAAGAUUUAGGUAAACCAACAUUGGAGAGAAUACAACAUACUUUCUCCAUCAAAGUCCUAUUCAUUUGCUCUACCACACUAUUUGAUGUAGAGUAUGACAAACUGUGUGAUGCCUCACAAUUCCUUCUAACUUGCGUAGAGCAUUUAAUUCAUCAUAACAAAACUCCAAGCCAUUAUUAGUGCAGAGAUGUUUUACCUACUUCUCUAUCUACUUCUCAAUCAUAAUCUUCCAGUCCUUGAAUGUAGCUAGCACAUCACUCUUUUGCUUCAAGAAAAACACCCAAAAUUUUCUAGAAAAAUCAUUAAUGAUAGUCAACAUAUAACUAUAACCUCCCUUAAAAGGCACCCUAGAUGGUCCCUAAAGAUCAUAAUAUAUAUAACCAAGUGUCCCUUUUGUCUUGUGAAUGCUUUUUAUGGAUUUAACUCUCCUCUGCUUCCCAAAAAAGCAAUGCUCAUAGAACUUCAGUUUACUAAUACUUUGCCCAUUAAAAAUUCCUUUUAUACUCAGUUCAACCAUCCUAUUCUCACUUAUAUGCCCAAGAUGCAUAUGGCAAAGUCUAAUAACAUCACCAUCUGACAAUGAAAGAGUUGCAACAGUUGCAUCACCUGUAACUAUAAGACCUUGCAAGACAUAUAAUUUGGAAGACCUUUUCUACCCUUUCAUCAUAACAAGAACACUUUUGCUAACCUUCAAGACUCCACCCUCACCAAUUUACUUGUACCUUUUUGAAUCAAGAGUACUCAACGAGAUAAGAUUCCUCUUUAGAUCUAGGACGUGUCUCACAUCACCAAGUGUCUUAACAAGCAUAUCAAACUUUUUAAUUUUGAUCAUUCCAAUACUAGCUAUCUUAUAAGAUGCAUCAUUUCUCAUCUACAUAACACAUUUGGACAUUGUUUCAUAUGUUGAAAAAUAGUCCCGAUUGGGACACAUGAAAUGUGCAAUCGGAAUCAAGAAUCAAAUCUUUGUAAGGUUUGGAGUCGCUAUAAAAAAAAACUAGGAGUUUUCCAUCACUAUACUCAUCUUCUACAACACUGGCUUCACCAGAUUUUUCUAGUUGUUUUCCCUUCUGAUUUACAGCAACUUUCUUAUUCUUAUUCUGCAAUUUAUAGCAUUCAGAUUUGAUGUGCCCCUUUUUCUUAUAGUAUCUAUAGGUUUUUUGUCUUUAUUACUACAUUUCAAUAUGCCCCUCGCAUCACCACCAAAAUUCCUCUCCUAUAUCCUCUCUCAAACAACAAGGUCCUCUACCUGAGCCUUAGAUCCAAUCACAAGCUACUUCAUCUUUUCCUUAGAAUAUAAAGCAUAAAAAACUUUCUCCAGUAAGAGUGUCACGAUUAUACAAAAUAGUAUCUCUAAAAGUCGUAUAUAAAGAGGGCAACAAACAUAAUAAAAUCAACCCUAAAUCUUCUUCAUCAUACUAAACCUCCAUGGUCUCUACAUCAAAAACAAUUUCUUUAGAGACGGUUAAGUGAUCUUCUAAAUACAUACCUUCUGUUAUACGAUGAGAAUACAGUCACUAUUUUAGAUGUAACUUGCUAGUUAGACUUUUCAUCAUGCACAAGAAAUUUUUUCUUUCAGAAUGUCCUAUAAAAUUUGAUUUGACAUAUGAAGAUGAAUUUGAGAUAGGGCCUUUUGAUCAUUACGUUGUUUUUUCUCCGGUGUCCACGAUGAGGGCAUCUUGUCAAACCCUAAUAGGAUUAUACCAAAAAAAGAAAUCGAGUUACCAAACUCUAACAAGAUUCAAUAGGUUUCAUAUAUUUCCCUUAAACCAUACACUUGAAUUUAAAGGCUAUAAUCAAGAAACCUAAUGAAAUUUGGUACAAACUCAAUCACUUGACCUCUUUUUAAUUAACUAGGAGCAUUAGGUGACAAAAUAUUCACAAAAUCUAUCAAAACAAUGCAAAUUGUGUAUCCUGCAUAAUUCUUUGAGUAGUAAAGUAAUAUCCAUUGAAAUUUGAUCAUAGAGCUGAUAUUAAAUCAAUUACUUGAACUUAAAGGAAAAAAAUGAAGAGAAUUUUGUGAGGACAAACUAAAGUUGUGAGGAUUAAUCAAAAUAAAAAGUUGAAUUCAACAAAUUGGCAUUUCUCUAAUGGGUGCAAUUUGGCAAAUUAGUUUAACCUAACUCGAAUCUCGAUGAAGUUAAGAAAACAUUUUUAGUACUCAAGUUAAGAUUUGGUUGACUUUCUUAACCAAAAAUUAAUUUGGGUUGACCUCAAUUUUGGGCUUAGUUCAAACCAAUGCUUCAAGAAUCUAAGCCUAAUUAAACUCCAUUUAAUAUUUUAUAAUAUUUAUAGAAUGUAUUACUAUAUAAUAAUAUCAAUUUUUUUUCUAGAAUAAGUUCAAGGGAAAAAACAUCAAAAUAUAUUAAGCUAACUCUUAAAAAUUUGCCUACUCUUUGUGAACACUAUUUGGAAGGAAAAUUAAUAAGGAAGCCUCUUAAGAAAGCCCCAAAGGUAUAUCGUCCUUUUAGCCAAGGCAUUCUAAAGUACAAGGCCUAAUGAACAUGAGAGCUAAGCAUGGUGCCUACUACUUCAUCACAUUUAUAGACAAUUAUGUCUACAAGUCCAAAGAAUUACUCUAGUUUAGAUGUUAUAUGAAUAUUGUAGAAAACUGAAAAGAAAAAACUAUUAAAGCAUUAAGGAUAAAUCAUGGACAUGAGUAUCUAUUAAAGAUUUUUUAAAAUCUCUAUGAUGAAAAGGAAAUCCAAAGACAAUCAAUAGCUUCAAGGACUCGAUAGUAAAUUGGUUGAAUUGAAAAAAGUAACCAUAAACUUUUGGAUAUGGUUUACUUAAAAUGACAUAAGCCAACUUUCUAAUAUCCUUGGGGAGGAAGGGUUACUGUUUUGAUUGUAACUUAAAACUUGAAUAGAGUACCCUCAAAAUCAAUUACUUCAAACCCAUAUAGUUGUGAAAAAAAAGAAGUAAAAAACUAAACCUAACUCACUUGUGAUCCUAAGGCUUAGUAGGUUCAAUUCAUGUAAAUUCUCAUAUAUAUUGUGCUAUAAAGGAAACAAGUAAAUUUUCAUUAGAUAUUCUAAUAAAUCAAAGGUUGUGUGAUGCUUAAUGUACAACUCACGAGAGUAUAAUUGAAGUUAAGUCAUAUGAAGUUAGUUUCUUAUAGGAUGAUAUUUCGAGUAGAGGAGCAUUAAACAAGAGUCUUAAUUUAUUUAAGGCAAUUAAACCAAAGGAAAAUACUGUGAUAUCCCACAUCGAAUAUAGGAAAAAGUUCUUGACAUUAUAUAUGUAUGAGCUCCUCUUAAUUAUUUAGACACAUUUUAACAUUGUGAGGGCUCUUUAAACCCAAAGCAGAUAGAAUAUAUUUACAUAGUUGGGAGUGGGUCGUUAAAAAUGAUAUUAGAGUAUAUUCUCAACCCCAAUGUGGGAGUUUGUUUAGCCUCACAACGGAUAUUUGUUUGUUUGGUCUUGCAAUCCUAUGAGACAUAAUAAGUAUGUUAUGUCUCUCUGGGGGUGAUUGUGAUAUCCCACAUUGAAUAGGGGAAAAAGUUCUUAGCAUUAUGUAUGGACUCCUCUUAACCAUGCAAGUGUGUUUUAAAUCUAUAAGGACCCUUUAAGCUUAGAGUAAACAAUAUUUACAUGAUUAGAGUGAGUUGUUAUAGAUGUUGAAGAUCUUGCUAAGGAUAUGAGUGACUCGACAAUUUUCAAGACUAUAAUUUUAAGUAGUAGCCUACCACCUACUUAUGCCACCAAGUGGGAUUUUACCAUUACAUAUUAUUCACUAGAUUUAGAUGUUUGUGUAGAAAACUUGGAACUAUCCCAUCAUUGUCAUUGUGGGCAUUAGGGUGAAGCUUUCAUGUUUGCUUCAUAAGAUCAUGAUGUUGGGAUAGAGCUUUAAAAAGUAUGAUAUGAUGUAACCAUAAAUGGAGUUCAUUAAUACUUAUAUUAUGACUUCGAUUUUCUAUUCCCUAUCCUGUUCAUGAAUUAUGUAUAUUGAGCAUUUAAACCUACAUCACUUGCAUAGUACAUGGGUGAAUUAGGAGUUGCAUAGAAGAUCCCAAUCAUAGGUUCCUUGCAAGUUAAUAACUCAUUCACCAUUGGUUCAUGGACCUAGGUAAUCCAUCUGAGGUUAUAGUGCAUUAUCUCCUAAUUAGAGAGAUGACUUACCUUGGUCAUUAGGAUGGGUUUUCCAUGAUGAGAAACUAGUGUGUUUAGUUAUGCUGGGAAACCUAGAUCUUUUCAUUCCCAUAACCCUUGAUUGUAUAGGUGCAUGCAAAAUACCCUAGGCCUCUAGAUAUUAUUCAACGUGAGAAAAAAUCAAUUUUUUAAUAUUCUAGAACCUAGAGAAAAGUCAUUAGAAAACUUUAUCUUUGAUUUGGACAGUUCUCAAAUCAAUUUUGCUUAGUGAAGAUGAAGCUUAAAGACUCCAGAGGUCUCGUACACCUAAGAUCUUUCACCCAAUGACUCAAUCCACAAUCUUGCCACUCCAUGGUGUGGGCUUUAAAAGGGUAGAAUCCUAGGCUCACUUUCUUUUUCUAAAGAUAGAAGAUGAUUGAUCUUAAAAAGCAAUGAAAACCCUAAUCCUUAAGGGGUAUUUAUAGGGUUCUCCUACUAGACUUAAGUGACUUGAGCCCACCAAGACUUAGGUCACUUAAUCAAGCUCAAAAUUGGUCUUAAUUGAUUAAUUAAGCAUAUAAGGUCAUCUAAUUAAUCAAUUAGCCCAAUCCAAAGACCUUGUUUAUUAUCCCUUGUGUAACCUUUCAUAAUUACCAAAAUACCCUUAUACAUAAGAGUGAACUUAGAGUCAAUCCAACCCUCAUAAAACUAUGCCAUAAUGGUAUAUGAGCUUAGAGUAAGGACCAAUUGGAUAGAUAGGAGGACUAACUCCUUCAUAAUCCAAUUUUGGAGUUGAUUCAACAUUCCACUAAAGAGAAUUAAUGGAACUCCAUUACCCUAUAUGAAUAAUAAUGAGAUGAAGCUUAGAUCCGUGACCUACUAUCCAUUGCAUGUAGAGUCCCCAUGAACUAAUGUCUAUAAUCUAAUAAGGUAGUGUUAUCACCUGUCAAGAUUUUCUCUUCAAUACUUAAGUUAUAGAUCCCACUUAUUAUGUGAUCAAUUGACUUUAGCUUGAAGGAGUAUAUGUCAAAUUUCCAUUAAAGGAAUUAUUAUGGCCAUAGUCUUCUAGAUCACAUGUCCUUUGGAUCACCCAAUAGGACAUAUUUUCUCAAUCUAUAAGAUAUCAUGGUGCCUCCAUUGAGAAUAUUUUUUGCCACUAGCCUCCAUCAACAGUGAUCUAAUCCAUAAGGAUAUAUGGCCACUUUAGAGUCUCACUCAUAAGUCAAAACCUCAUGUUGGCUUUGACACUAACUUAAUAUCCUCUCAAGGUUGAGAGUCCUUACCGUAUAGUAGCAUGGUGUAUCAUGACAAUUGAUAGCCUUAUGUCUUGACUCACUAUAGGUCGAGUCUAGUGCAAAUCAUAUGCACUAGUGCACUCACCAUGGGAAAACCAUCCUGGCUAUCAAGAGAAGUCAUCCCUCUUAUUAGGAGGUAGUGCACUACAAUCUUAAAUGAAUUUCCUAAAUCCAUGAACCAACCAUGGACAACUUAUCACUUUGUAAGGAACCCAUAACUUUGGAUCUUCUAUGAAACUCUUAAUGCACCCAAGUCAUGUAUAGUGUAAGUGAUGUGGGGUGUGUAUGUUCAAAUAACCAAUUAAUGCAAAUGGGAUAAUAAUAAGAAACCAAGAAGCAAAAAUAAAUAAAUUUAUAAAAGAAUCUCUAUAUCUUACAUCAUGUCAUGCUUUCAAGGGCUUAAUCCCAAUAGGCUACACAUUAGAUAGGACUUAUGGUAAGUCAGACAUUAGUUAUUAGGUAGUCAUGACUUCACCAAACAACUUUGUUGCAUGAGCUCUCAACUUUGAGAGAAUAUUGAUCUAGUGCUAAGGUCUUCAAUGACUUUGACCUAUGAGAGAGACCCUAAAGUGGUCACAUAUUCUCUAUGGAUUGGGUUACUAUUAAUUGGGACGAACAGGUAUUCUCAAAAUAGGCAUCAUGAUAUCUUAAGGGUUUGAGACAUUAUGUUCCCUUGGGUGAUCCUAAGGACAUGUGACCAUGAAAACUAUGGCCACAAUAAUUCCUUAAGUGAAAUUUGACAUAUGCACUUAGACAGAUAUAGUAUGGCAGUUAAUAAAAUAAUAGGAGGAUUUAAGAUUAAAGGAUUAUAAAGGUAGUCUUGAAAGGUUGAUAACAUUCAUCUCGUUAAAUUAUGGAUACCAAUUCAUAGGAAGCUUGCAUGCAAUUGUUAGUAGGUCAUAGCCUCAAGUCUUCUAUCUCGAUCUAAUAUCAUAGGAUACUAAAGUGUAGUUGACUCUUUAUAGUUAGAUGUUGAGUCAACUUUAAAAUUGGAUUUUGAGGGAGCUAGUACUUUUUUAUGCAUCCCGAUGGUUCCCACUUGAACUCAUAUUCCUUGGUGACAUAUUAUUUGAGGGAUAGUUGGGUUCUUUAUUCAUAUGUGUGCAUAAGAGAAUUUUGGUAAAUACAGAAGGUGACACAAGUGAUUAUACAAGAGGUAAAUAUAGAAAAAAUGAUACAACCAAAAUGAGAGUGUAAAGUAAAAUAAUAAACAGAAUAAUAAAAAACUUCUUAUGAGUACUAAGGUUUGCCUCAACUCUCCUCAUUCAAACCAUUAUCAUGCCUUUGGAUUUGGAAUUAUACCAAAUAAACAUUCAAAUCACUUUUCUUAAUGGAGAAAUGAAUGAGAAGAUCUAUGUAGAUCAAUUGACUUGUUUUAUGGCAACUAAAUAGAAGGGUAAAGUUAACAACUACGAAGGUCUGUUUAUAGCCUAAAAUAAUCUUCUAAACAAUGGUAUAUUACACUAAUUGGUUUAUGAUGGUCUAAGAACACUACUACAUGUUUAUUAAAUGGAGUAAAGGUAUAUUCUUUAUUUUUAUUUUUUUCUAUACAAAUGACAUGUUAGUUAGGGAUGACAAUGAGAUCGUCAUUGCCUCUAAAGUGUGGUGGUCAUCAAAUUUUAAAAUGAACAACAUGUUUAAAGCAAACUAUGUGCUCAAAGUUAUGAUCCUAAGCAAUCAAUAAAGUAGAAUUUUUCGUUUGUCUUACAAAUCAUACACAACAAAUAUUCUUGAAAAAAUUCUAGAUGUAAAAUUGAAAACCUAUUAGCACACAUAUAGAGAGAGUUAAAACCUUAAGCUUUAACAUGUGUCUAAGACUUUGGAUGAAAAGAAAAAGAUCACUCAAGGUUCCUAUAUAUGCUAGCAUUGUUAGUUGCUUAAAGUACCCAAUGAUAUGAACAUGAACUAAUAUUUAUUACAUAAUUAGGUUAGUAGGUUCCGGUUAGAUCCAAACCUUGCUUACAAGAAAGUAGUGAAUUGGAUGCUUUCUUACCUCAGAGGCACCAUAGGGUGUAUAAUUGUUAUUGAGGAUUGAAUUUGCACUUGAUUGGCUGUAACAAUGCUAAUUGGGGUAGCAUCCUAAAUGAACCCAAAUCCACAUAUAAUUAUAAUUUUAUAUAUGCUCCAUGAUGUUAGCAUAUAUUGGAGAAGUAGAAAACAAUCAUUUAUGACAUUGUCUAUCAUGGAGUUAGGAGUACAUUACUUAUCGUUUAGGAAAGUGACUAGUUUACAAUGUUCUUACAUAUGUUUUAUAAUGUUUCAUGUGCUUUUGAGCAUACUACUAUUUAUUGUGAUAGCAAGGAAGCUUUAGCCUAUGCCAAAGAGCCCCAACUAUCAUAGUUGAACCAAACACAUCAAUCUUAAAUAUUAGUUGUUAUAAGACAUGGUUGCAUAGGAACAUAUUUCUACACGUUUCAUGGUUACAGACUGAACCCCCCAUCCCUCCAUUGACUAAGUUAAUACGUAAAUAUGUUUAUUAGGGUCAGGUUGAGAACAUUGGAUUAUGUAGAUCAUGAUUACAUAGGAGUUAAGUUGAGAGCAUUGGAUCAUGUAGAUUAUGAUUCCAUAUUGUAUAUUUCAAUUAACCAUUAUACCUAGGAUUUAUUCAUUGUUCAAUCUUGUUUGAUGGUGGCAUGUUAUUUGCUUUACUUUAUUGGCAUGCACUUUCAUUACUUUGCACAGUGAGCAAAGUUGAAACAUAAUGAGUCUGAACCACUUAGAUAGUGUGCUAGGUCAUUGAUCCUUGUUGUGUCCAAUAUGACUUAUAUGUUAGUAGUGAAAGAGACCAAGUAUAAAUAGUCCUAUAGUCCAUACUUUACUUGUAAUGGAGUUAAUUGCCAAAUGACAUUAAUGUAGUGCUUGAUUUAGCAAGCAUAUGCAAAACUUAAGUUCUUUGCUUGAUGCAACUGAACUAAGAUUUGUAUGAUAUAGAAGAACUAAGGUACACUCAUAAUGAAGAUCUCCAUGGUAGCAUGCAUUUUCAUACUAUAUCUUCUUGGCAAUCAAAUAAGAAUGAAUGAAUAGAUUCCUCCUUCCUUGUCAUGUGUAUUAAUCUUAUAUAGGUCAUUAUAUAGUAUAACUUUUAUGCUCUUGCAAUUUUCAUUCAUAAGUUAUAAGUAUGGUGUAUUUUGAAAUAUUUUUCUAAAGGGAUUAAUGAUGCUUAAUUCAAUGUGAAUAAAUGUGUUUAAGGUAUAACAAGAAACCUUUUGGGAUGAAUUAUACAAGUUGAGAUGAAAUUUAUUUUAAUACUCCACCUUUCUUAUCAAUGUGUUCCAUAGUUGUACAAUCCAUUAGUCAAUAUGAACAUGGAUGAUAAUGAUAUAGUUGAGAGAUGCAUGACAUUGUUUUGCCUAGUAUGCAUGAGUGGGAGACAAUGGAGUUUCUAUUUCAUGAGAUACUCUCAGUAGGACUUUAUCAACUAAGAGCUUGAGAGUAAGUUGCAUACUUAUCAGUUAAGAUUCCUCUUGUGAGAGGAGGUUCACAUUCAGAUUUGGGGAGAAUCUAUAAGAGUUGUUCAUGUUUUGCAAUUCCAAUUCUAGUCCUUUCCCAUGUUUUCAAUUUAGAUUGUCGCAAUUGUUAAAUAUUUUUACUUUAGUCUUUAGCAAUUAUAAUUUUUUAAAGCUUGCUAUUUAGGUUUAGAUUUACUAGAUGCUUAUUAGAUAUCUUAAUUCUUGUUGUAUUCUCCUUGGUUAAUAAUCUUUGAUUGUGGAGUUCAAAGCUUUUUACCAAAAUAGGGAUAACGGUUUUCAAUGUUAGGGAAAGCAUUUAAUAAAAUUAAUUCUUGAAUAAGUUGGCAUGCUAAAUCUUUCAAUUGAACCUAAUAAGUUUACAUACUAAAUCUCUCAUUUUCAACCUUGGUUGUUUCCACUCUUUGCAAUUUAAUUAGGUUUUCUUUAUAUAUAUGUGUGUGUGUGUGUGUGUAUAUAUAUAUAUAUAGAUAGAUAAUUUAUUUUGUGUACCUAUAUAACUAAGUUUUUGAGUAAUUAUGAGUUGUAUUGUUACAUUUAGUAGAAUUUGACAAACUAAAUAAAUGAAGUGCUUACCUUUGAAAAAUUGAGUCCAAUAGCACAUUUGUGUGGAUAGGUCACAUCUACCAACUUGAUUCUCCAUGCUUCCUCUAUUAGGUUGACUAAGAAAAUAGUUUAAUUUCACAGGAGCACCUUAAGGACAAAAAUAUCAAGAAAAGUGAAGGAAAAUUAUGCUUCAUCUAAUAUGACUAUAGGACUUAAAUGGAAAAAAACAUAAUAAUAUAAUAGUUAUUAUAAUGAAUAUAAUAAAAAUAAAAUUUUUCAUGAUCUUCCCAAUACUCAUAAAGCCCCUUUCAAUGAAACUUUGUAAGCUCUACUAACACAAAAUAAUAGUCUGUAUAGUAAAAGCUCAAUAAAUGAGUGCUUGAUAAAUUAAUAACCUUAUUUGAAUAACAGAACCUUCUGGUCUUAACUCAGGCUAGUGUACUAAAUUAUAUAUAUAUAUUAAAAAGAAAUUCAUAAUACAAUAUUAGGUAACUUUUUAUAACUUUUAUUUUUCUAAAUUCACUUGUUUUGGAAUCAUCACAUAUUUAAAAUAUCUUUAUCUUUUACAACAUUAAGUUUUGAUGUCAUACCUAUUUUUUUAGGAGUCUUUCUAUCUUUUACAAUCAAUAACGAUCCUUUUUUUUUAGUCUCUUAGGUUUCUAUGUAUUAUCUUUUUACCAUAUGAAUUAUUUUUAAAUUUAUAAGUCAUACAUGUACCAAUAUUGUAUACUAAUAACAUAAUACUCUUUAUAAAUUAAUGAAUAUUCAUUUAUCGAUAAAUCUAAGAUAAUAAUUUUUCUUGGUCCCAAUAACAUUAUUUUAUAAGAUUUUACCCUAUAUACUUCCUUCAUUGUAGGAAUUUCUUUAGAUUAAUAUUUUUAAGUAAUAGUUGUACUUAAAAAAAUAUAUAUAAUGGAAGUUAAGAGAAUUUUGAAGUUAUAAAUUAGUGUUUUAUAUCAUUUGUUUGUCUAUGAAUGCUAAAACCAUUGUCAAAUAAAAAGAGUAAAUAAAGUAAUUAGUUAAAAAUUAAAUAAGUGACUUAAAAUUACUACUUUGGUACAUGUUUGUUUGAGGUAUAGUAGAUCGUAAGAAAUAAAAUCCUCUAGUUAUGUUUAUUUGAUAGAAUAAAAAAGUGAGUGUGUGGUUGCUCUACAAGAGAAGACCACACAUUAGUCAAAGAAAAAGUAACCAGAAAGCUUGCACAAGUGUUGAAUGAUCAAUCUCUCACCUAAGUGCACUAAUGAGAAAUAAAUGUUGAAUUAAACCAUAGUCAUGCACUCGUGCCAAGGCUCAUGCCUCCAUAUGGGAAAACCUUAAUUGCUCCAAAGUUUAAAAGUGGCCACAUCCUCUAUGCCAGGUAAGUAUUCCAAAAAUCAAGAAAGUUAACCUUUGAGUUGAUGCUUAUUUAUCUAGCAGUUUCCUCAUCCUUCUUACUAACUUGACCUUCAAAGGCUUUAUGACCAUAAGGAGCCUAGAGUGCUCACUUUUAGGUUCCUUAUGAUUGUAGGGUCCUAAUGAUCCAUUGAAGUAAGAAUGUGAACUAGGAGUUGGAAAAAUGGUGUCAUCUAUGGGAAUGCAUUAAAAGCCUUGAAGCCAUGUUUAAACCCAUAGUGGCGGUUGGGCAAUAGAAGAACCUCAUGCAAUGGACUCUUGGUAGGAAAAGGUAAUCAUGACAAAUAUGAGGUGGAGAAAGGAGUGAGAGCAAACCUUUCAACAUAUGGAGGAGCUUACUAAAAUAAGCAACUAACUCACUCAAGAGAAUGUUGCCUUUAGGGUAAGGGUGUAAGAGUACCAGUGUGAUCUUAAUCAACAGCUCUCAUUGGUUUGCACCAAUAAGAUUCAAGUCAGUGAAUAAUAGUUAUCAAAGCAAUUAGACCGACAUAUAGAUUAAAUUAGGGAAGGAGGGUGGAGGGGACCUUAAUCAUACUAACUUACCAAAGGCCUCAAUGCCUUAGGGCUUCUUGCCACCAUAGCUACCAUUAGAUGUAUAACCUUGGUGAAUAAGGAGAUUAAGCCUAGGGCCCUUCAGGAGAAGGUUGCCACAUGAGGAUUUUCCCUUCCAAAUUCAAUUUCUUUCAAUGGAACUUAAGACCCCCUAGACUACUCAUGCAUUUCUAGCAUAUAAUGAUCCCAAAAAAGGGAAAUGAUAGACUUUUAUUCAAGAUCUUCCUCUCCAGCCUCCAAGGACUAACUUUCUAUUGGCUUUAUCAACUUCUGUUAUGGUUUAUUCCUGAUAUGGAAACCUUAAGGUGAUGUUUGCCUCCUAGUACAUGAACUUAACAAGAUAGAAGAAAAGCCUUGACCAACCCAAGGUGGUUAUAGCUACCAUCCAUGAGGGAUCAUUCACUAGAUUUGAGUAACUAGGUAGGGUAUCAGGAUAUUAUAGAAGCAAAUGGUGAUUCAAGUAAAAGUCCACACAACCUUCUAUGAAGUAACUACCACUUGCCUAUAUGCCAUAUGCAUCUUUAACAAAGACUUAAGAGGACUCCAAGCCCUGCACAAGAUUUAUUGGUUAUUAGUUUAAGGAUUAUUGACUAAGACAUGCAUCUAUUCUUAGUUGACCUAAGGAGUUUAGCUAACUUACUAAAUAUAUUAGCCCAUAUACAAACAAAUGAAUAUGGAUAAAGGAAAACUAGUGUCGACUCUAGGGUAAUUGGUAGGACUAGAUAAAGUCUUGCGUGGGUUAACUAGGGAAGUCACUCUAAUAGUUUUAGUUGGUUGCUGCCAUAUAAUGACACAAUUCUUUGUUAUGGAUAUCAUUUUCCCUAUAAUACCAUUAUGGGAUGACCUUGGAUAUACAACCUAAAAGGCAUACUCUUCACCUACCAUCACAUCAUUAAAUUCGUAACACUAUAAGGAAUAUGAGAAGUAUAUUAGGACUAGGUGGUAGCAUGAGUGAUACACCAUAGCCCUUAAAGCGGUUAGGAAGUGCAUCAAUCGGGACCCAUAAGAAGUUCAUAAAUCAUAAAUCUAAUAACAAUUAACAGAUGACCCUAAAAGGCAGUUAGAGAACCUAGGGAGUCAUUACUUUAAAGGCCCUAAACCCAGGAAGUUCCUCUUGGCUCAUGCAAAAAAUGAUGUCUUAAGAUGGUUACUGGAAAAGAACCCAUCUUCGCUUGGAAACAGUAGGACAUGGUGGGUAUCAACCCCCAAGUUGCAUAUCACUAACUCAACAUAAACCUAGGUGGUUAGCUCCUUAAAGACACUAGAUUGUGAAAGAAAAGGUAUCCAGUUUCUUAGAUACUAGAUUUAUAAGAGAGGUAAUUUGUCCUAGUUGGUUAGUGAAUAAAAAUCAUCAUACCUAAGAAGACGGGAAAGUGGAAGGUAUGCCUAGACUAUACCAAUUUAAAUAAGGAUUUCCUUAAGGAUAGCUAUUCCUCACCUUGAAUAGAUUAGUUAGUCGAUGCCACCUUUGAUUAUAAGUUGAUUAUGUUCAUGGAUGUGUAUUCCAAGUAGAACCAAAUAAGCAAGCAACAAAGAAAAAAUAGCCUUUAUUAUCGGAUUAGUAACAUAUUGCUAUCAAACCAUGCUCUUUGGCCCAAAAAAAUUAAGGCUACCUACAAAUGUUCGAUCAUCUAGGUCUUUUAACUAUAAAUAGAAGUCAACAUGAAAGUCCACAUUAAUAACAUGUUAGUAACAUAUAAGAAAAGGAACAAGUACUUGAUUGACUUCCUAAGAACAUUUCAAACUCUUUGAAAGUACUAAAUGAAACUAAAUCAAUGAAGUACACCUUUAAUGUAGGGUGUGGAAAGUUCCUUAAGUGCUUGGUUACAUACAAAUGAAUAGAAAUUAACCUAGACCAAAUAAAAGCAACUUUGGAGAUAUCAAUGACUAAAAUUGUUAGAGAAGUCCAAGAGCUCACUAACAAGAUUGGUGCUUGAAAUAGAUUCAUAUAUUGGAUAAUGAAUAAAUGUCAUCCUUUCUUCGACAUCAGCAAGAAUGGAAAAUGGACUAAAGGAACCAAAAAGUGCAAAUAAGCUUGCGAAUGACUAAAGCAUUACAUGAUGCUACCCCCCAUUUUGGAUAAACCUUCGGAUAAGAAGGUCUUAUAAGGUCUUAUAAGGUCUCAUUAGCAACUAUAAGUGGAAUAUUUGCUCAAAAAGAAGGAAAAGAGGAGCAACCAAUGUACUAUGUCUAAAAAGCCCUCUUAGGUGUGGAAACGUGAGAGUAUAUAUAAAUAUUGAAAAGUUGGUGCUUACCUUUUAGAUCACCACACUAAAACUUCAAUGUUAUUUCCAAGUGCAUGUUAUUAAGGUAAGGACCAAGUGAUGAAAACUCAAACUUAACACUUUAAUGGCUCUAAAGAGCCUACUUUGGUGUUUUGAGGCACUAAAAAAUUAACCCAAUGUUUUGUUUUGUUGAUAAUACCUUAGAAUAUUAUGUUUGAUGCAUUCUAUGAGCAUUCUACAGGCUUUAAGGUGUUUUUGGUGCAAUAGAACCUUGUUGGGAACUCAUGGAGACAAAAAUGCCUAAGUAGGAAGGAAACACAUAUUGCACACCUAAAAAGUGUGCAAGACUCAAUCAUGCACUUUGUUUUUAGCGUAGAGCCACAUAGUGAUGGGAAAAUCCUAGAUCUCUUUGUUUCCUAAGCUCGGAUUAGGUUAGAAACAUACAAAACUAUCCUAGGCUUUUCUAAAUCCUAUGCAUAGUAGAAAAUUUGCAUUUUUAAACUUUAUACGGAUUUAGAAUAUGCUAAUGAAAAAUGUACCUGAGAUUUGAAUGUUCUUGAAUCGAUUCUACGCAAAGAAGAUGAAGAAUGGAGUCCCAAGAACUCUUGUAAACCCCGAGCCUUUCGCCUUAUAACUUGAACCUUAAUCUUGACACACUUUUGGUAGGGAUAGAAGGAAGGGUAGAGGCUAUGAUUCUCUUUCUAGAGAUGGAAGAAGCCUUUCUAGAAAAAGUUAUGGAAACCCUAAGCCCUAAGGGGCUAUUUAUAAGGUUUUCCCACUAGGCUUAAGUGAUUUGAGCCCACUAUAGGCUUGGGUCACUUAAUCUUAACCCAAAACAGGUUCUAAUUGAUUCAUCAACCCAAUAGGGCCUACUAAUUAAUUAAUUAACCCAAUCUAGAGACCUUGUUCACUUACCACGAUGCAAUCUUGCGUAAUUACCAAAACUCCCUUAUGCACAAAAGUGAACCUAUAGCUAAUUCGACCCUCAUAACCCAUGCCAAUAAGGUAUAUGAUCUUAGAGCAAGGACCAUUGGGACCCAUAAGAGUACUAGCUCCCUCAAAAUCCAAUUUUGAAGUUGAUUCAACAUCUUACUACAAAAAAAAAUCAACUAAACUAUAAUAUCCUAUGUAAAUAACAACAAGACACCAUGUGUUAAUGUCCGUGACCUACUAUCCAUUGCGUUUAGUCUUCCCAUGAACUGGCGACCAUAGUCCAACAAGGUGAAAACUAUCAUCCUUUCAAAACUACCUCUACUAUCCUUGAGUUAUAGAUCCUCUUAUUUUGUGUUCAAUUGACAUGUAUUACCUCUUAAAGAGUCUAUGUCAACUUCCACUUAAGGAACUACUAUGGCUAUAGUUUCCAUGAACACACUUCCUUAGGAUCACCCAAAAGGACACUCUAUCUCAAUACUAAGAGAUAUCAUGGUGCUUUUAUCAAGAAUUCAUAUUGCUAAUAGCUUUCAUCAAUAGUGACCCAAUCUAUAGGAAAUAUAUGAUCAGCUUAUGAUCUCACUGGUAGGUUAAAUCUACUACUAACUUUAGAACAAACUUAAUAUCCUCUCAAGGUUGAGAGACAACACAAUGAAGUAGUUUAGUGAAGUCAUGACUACUUGAUAGCCUUAAGUCAUGACUCAUUGCAGGUCUUGUCUAAUGUGUAACCACACACACUAAUGCACACACCAUGGGAAACCCAUCCCGAUAGUUAGAACAAGUCAUCCAUCUAAUUAGGAGGUGAUGCCUUACAACCUUUAAUGGGUUGCCUAGACUCACGAAUUGGCUAUGAAUAAGUCAUCUAUUUGCAAGGAACUGUGAUUAAUUUAGAUCUUCCUUGUAACUCCUAAUGCACCUAAGUCAUGUAUAAUGCAAAAGAUGUAGGUUAGAGUGCUUACAAGGUAUAAUGCAUGGAAAUAGGAUAUAUAAAAGUGAACUAGAACUUUAUUAAACAAAUAAUAAAAUCCUAGAGUUUAUUACAUCAUGUCAUGCUUUUGAGGACUUUAUCCUAACAUAUAAUGCACCUCCCAUGUAUGUAUUGAAGACCAAACACAUAAGAGCUCUCUAAUGUAUUGGACCAAAUUUUGCAUCCUACUCAAGCAACUCAAUCUAUAAACCUCUUAAGUGCUCUAAGCCAAAAUGUUGUGCACCCCUUUGCUUAAGUCAGCAGGAUGUGUAGUAGUACACCCCCUUGAUGUCAUCUAAAUUACAAACCAUUCUUACCUCUACAAUAGCUAUGUCCUCCCAAAGUAGCAUGUUAUUUAUAAAGUCUUCAAUUCUAUUACCAAAACCUACUCGAUGUUGAUUGCAUAGAGAAAAAAGUGCAACUCCCAACCAUAAGCUAACAUAUCAAGAAUGAUGGUGGGUUGACUACACUGACCAAGGAUCUGACCCUCAAUAUAGGCAAGAGACAAGUCCAGAUGGGUUGGUGUUGGAGUAGUUGGAAUGGAGAGAGUAUUUUUUACCUAUAAAUGGAGGAUUGUAAAUAUAUAAGUAGAAGCAAAUUAUAGAAAGCGAAAUAGUAGAUAAGUUUUUCUUCUCGUAGGAAUAGGAGUAACUUAAUGUAGUUUUAGUUUUUAGUUUUCCAUUGUGAUAUUUUUAUUUCUUUAUAAACUUUCCCUAAUUUCUAGUUUAAUGGAUUUUACAAUCUUUUUUAUUAAUCUUACAUUUCAAUUUUUCAUUUUCAACUUACAAAUUUACAUUUUCAGUUACUUCCUUAAUUUUUAACAUACUUAUAUAACCUUUGACACUCUAAGAGGUGAGAGGAGCUUAGGUCUCCCAUCAAUAAGUUUAGCUCUCUACUCAUUUAUUUAUGCAUUAGUUAUAAAGAAUUUGAUAUCUAUCGGUAGUUACGAUGACCAAAAGGAGUAACCAUGGGCAGAAAAGUCUAUGUUACACUGGUUGUGGGGGUUGUAAUUUAAGUAGCCUUGGGAGCAUAUUUUGGCAUUGUUUUAAUAAUUUUUUCAACUAAGUAUAGGCUUAUUGACAUGAAAAGAACCUCAUCUAAAUCAUUUGGUUGCAAGGAUAAAAAAAAAAGAGCAGUUAGAGGGAGAUGAACCUUAUUAAGACGGUUAUUGUUCAUUUCAAGCAAGAACCUUUUGUGGUAUAGAUCCUUGGAUUAAUCCUAAACUUGAAAGCAUAAGUUCACAACCUCGUUGGUAAGUUGUAUUUGAAAAUGGUGAUCCUAAUAAAUCUCUUGUUUUUGGGUUUUCUUUUCUUUAAUUUUCUAUCUUUAAAACUUUUUGUGUGUGUGUCUUUUAUUUAUAAAAUCAUUUUUCUAAUCUUUUAGCUAACAUUCACACCCCUAAAGCUAUUACCUCAGUUGCUACCAAUUUAUAAUUCCUUGUGGAGGCAACCUAACGGCUAUACAACUAUUAGUUUUUUUUUUUUUGGUUCAAGAGUUGAGAGUUUUAAUUAAUGAUCUAGUUUAAUUCCUCUUUGUAAAACUUGACUAUUAAAUAUAUUUUUAAAUUUUGGUAAAAAAAGGAACUAGAGAAUGACAAACAAAAAAUUAGUGUUGUUGCCAGGGACUUUUCAACAUUGACUACUCUAGAGGUAUUUUUGGGUAUAUGUUUGUUGUUUUAAAAGCUUAGCAAGUAUAUUUCACCCAUUCCCUACCUAUCUUUUAGUUGGAUUUUUAUUUAUUUUUACUUAAUUUGUUUUAUUUAGAUUUUUUUUUCUUUAUUUUUUUUGCUUAGUUUUCACUUUCAAUUGUUAAAUCUAACAUUACAAGCAUGUUCUUUAUUAGGGAAAUGAUUUUAGAAAAAAGACACUAAGUAAUCAACCAAACCAUAGUUAUCAUUUUCCUCAACACAUUAGACCAUAACCACCUUAUAUCUAUUUUCCAAAUUCAAGCAUUGGUAGUACUAAUAGAAGUAUGAUGAAUGGGGAUUUUAACCCAAAUAACUAGCUAGCCAGGACCAUAAGGGUUACCUACAACCCAAGUCAAUGCUUUCUUUUAAUUGAUAUUUCCUUUUGAAUAUUUUCAAAUAAACAUUGAGCUUGUAAUGAUCCAAUUGGUAUCUUUAUCUUAUGGAAGGGAUGAUGAAAAUCCUUAUACUUAUUUAAAAUAAUUUGAAGAGCUAUGGUCUAUUUUGGUAGAACCUUCAUGAAAUCUAGAUCAUUUGAAACUCAAGGUUUUUUUUUUUUUUUCAUUAAAGAAAAAGGCUAAGCAUUAGAGGUAUAACCCAAGACUCUAUAGUAUAAGUUCUUGGGCUACUUUACAAAAUAUUUUUAAUAUUUUUUUAUUUAUUUUUUGUUUUGUAAAGAAGGAGACCUUGCAUAAUUGUUGGGAUCAGUUUAAAGCUUUGUUGCUCAACUUCCUUACCAUAGUUUUGAAAACUUAAGGAUUGCUUCUGCUUUUUAAAAGAGACCAUCUCCCUAAAUGAAACAAUUUGUUGAAAACAUGAGUGAUGGUUAAUUUAUAUAGGAGAAACCACAAGAAACACUUAAACAUUUAAAUUUGCUUGCUGAAAAAUCAAGGGUUUGGAACCCCUUAGUCCCUCGAGUACAUCUUCUGGAACUUGAAAACCAACCCCAACAACAUAUAGUCUCUCAUCCCAUCUCUCAAUUUAUCAUUUUCUCUUGGAACAAGAUUUUUGAAGAAGAUGAUCUUUGGAUGCUAUAAGAGGAGGAAGUCGCUGAAGUUGAGGAAAAGGAAACUAUGUACAUAGUAGAUUGAAAUGAAUUUGUUGAAUAAGAAUUAGUUGAAGAAGAGAAUUUCCAAUAGGUUGCAAAUAAGUUUGUAAGCUUCAUUUUAAAAAAAAAAUUUCAAAAAUAGAAAAAGAAAACUAUAAAGAGUAAGAAACAAAGAAGGAAUGAAACAAUGUAUUACAUUCUCACACUAGCUUUAUUCUUCCUCAGUUUUCCUUCUCGUUGCAAACUAAAAAUAUUGAGCUUCAAUUUUUAGAAGCUAGCCAACAAUUUGUAAAAAGCUUUCACUUUUCUUUUCUUCAUUAUUUUUAUUUAUGUUGCUCUUGCAACUUGAGUGUGUAGUAGCACCAUCAUUGUGAAGCCUGUAAUAUUACAUUCUCAGUACACUCAAUGCAUUUGGGUGACCUAUAUCAUCUCAUAAGAACUCAAGUAUAAAUUUCUCCACACUCUAUUGGUUUCAUCAUGAUUCAAAGUACGUGUAAAUUGUUAGCACUAGGAAGGCGCACAAAAGUGUUGGAAAUAUAGGAAUUCCAUACCUUUGAGGUGCAUUGCCCAACUUGUAUGAUGACUUAAAUUGUGCAUCUAUAAAGCACAACUCAAAUUGUACACCUUGAAAGCAUGACUUAAAUUCCAUACCCUAAGAGAAUAAUUUAAAUGGUACACUCAAAAGAGCGCAACUAAAAAUUACAUACCUUUGAGCAACCUUUUAUAUUGCAUAGCUUAUGUGUGCACAAUUUAAAUUACACAUCAUAAGAGUGCAAUCAUUUCCCAUGGGAUGCCAACUUAUUCUUUUGUAUUAUUAUCCAAGCGUGUUGUCCCUAGUAAAAAAUCUUUAUUCUCUUAUGCAAACUUUUUGGAAGAAAAAUAUCUUCUUAAACAAAACCAUAAUUUCCUAUAAUUUCUUAGAGACUUUUGUCUAUCCCACCAUCAAUGUAUCAAUUAUGGUGUAGGUAGGAAAUCGAGCAGCUUUCUAAGUUUUAUAUAAAGGAAGUAAUUUUAAUACUGUUUGCAUGUGCUCAAACAAGAACACACACAAUAGUGCAAUAUGAAAACUCUGAAGAAUGGUAAAAACCAAAACACUGAGCCUAAAUGAGACAAUGAAGAGAGCUAAAAAUGAACAAUCAAGCCAAUUUAUUGAAGUAAAGGUGACUAAACCAGUCACUAUAGUAGCCAUAAUACUAGAACAACCCAACAGAGCAUUUAGUAGAAUGAACAUUCAAACAAAAAAAGAAUCACGUUAAGGUUAAUAGCGUUGACCACGUCUUCAAUUAUUAUUGCUUAAUCUUUAGGAUAAUAACAUCAUAUAAUGAGCAUUUGAAGCUAACAAUGGGUGAUAUUGAACUUUGUCGGUCAAUCUCACCCUUAGUGAAGAAUUCAAUUAAGUAAUAGUCAGAGGUUGAACAGGAUAAACAAAAAUACCCCCAAGGAACUCAAAAUCUCAAGACUAUACAAUUUUUCAAGAGCCCCUGAUAAAUAUAACUUCUUUACCUAAUUUUUGCAUCAUUUUUGUUUUCUUUACCUUUUUCUUUUAACAAUCAAAUCAAGUAAAAUAAGCUUAGUUUUAAAUAUUUUAAUUCAAGCUCACAUCUGGAAUUAAUCUACUUAAAUGACUUAUUAAAAAUCAUCAUCUAAGUAAUGAAGUACCAUAGUGAACUUAGAGGAACCAAAAAGAAAUGAGUUUUCCUAAAAGUUUCUCUUUAAUCUAGUCUCACACACCAUGCACUAUAGUGUUAGGGUACUCAUACUUCUCAGGAGAAGAACUGGUGGCAACUUGAGAAAUAGAACAAACUCAUUGUAGAUAAAGUGUUAUGAUAAGAUUUGCUAUCACCAACAUCCUAUAGGAGGACGCAAUGAAGAGCAACUAAAGGAAUCCAUUUAUUACUUGAAGCUUGGUGGUAAUUCCCCAAGGGUGCUUUAUCACCUAGUGCCUUAUACCAACUGGUCUGGGAGUCAUAUAUUGAAAUCCAUUACAUAAGCAACAAGAAGGUGACAAAGUCUACAUUCUUUGAUGAAUGAACUUUUAAUUUUUCAAAAAACAAAAAGGGCGAGUGGAGGAAGGGAAGUGAAAGUAUAUUAAGGAAAACAAUUUGUCUCAAACUUAUGCCCUAGGAACUUGCUAUUCCUAAGACUAAGGGGUGUUAGUUUGAAAAAUCAAAAGAUAGAGGAAGGGAGAAACAAUAGUAAAAACUACUAAACUUAAGGAACCUUUUGUAUGCGAAGAUCUAGUCACACCUAAGUAAGGGCUGAUUUGAAAAUUUUCUUUUAAUGUAUUUAUUUUGUUUCAUUUGAGCUCUCUUACUUUUUGCGUUUUCUAACUCAAACUCAACACUUUAAUGGCUCUAAAUAUCUCACUUUAAUGUGUGAGGUACUCAGAAUUAACCUAAUGCAUUGUUUGACAAUACCUUAAACAACUAUAUUUGAUGAAUUUUGUGAGCAUUUUGUAGGCUUUAAGGUAUUUUUGGUAUAACAUAGCCUUUUUGGGAACUUGCAUGGACAAAAAUGUGUAAGUAUAGAGCAAACACAAAUACCUCACCUCUUAGGUGCACAAGACUUAAUAACAUGCCUCUUUUUUAGUGUAAAUCCAUAGUACACCUCCCAUGUACACCCUAAAGACCAAGUUGUGCACCCACUCAAACACCUUAAUUUGCACCUCUCUUAAGUGCUCUAAGCCUAGCAGUUGCAUACCUUUUCACUUGAGUCGGUAGGAUGGCCAGAGGUGCAACUACUCAAGAUCUAAAAUGUGCAAUCUUUUUUCAAUAAUAGAAUGCACUCUUAGGGGUAUUCUAACCUUACAUACCAUUCAUAUCUCCACAAGAGUUGUGUACUUAAUCAUUCUUCUAAUUAUUAGUGUACUCACAAAAGUAGCACAGUCAUGCAUGCAUCAAAGUCUUCAAUUGUAGUACCAAAACCUACGUAAUGUCGACAACACAAAAAAUGAGGUGUAGCUACCAACCCCAAGCUAAUACAUUAAGAAUCAUGAUCAAUUGACUACAUUGACAUAGGACUAAAUUUUGGUGUUGGAGUAGUUGGAACAAGGGGAAAUUUUUUUGCCCAUAAAACUAGGAUUGUAAAUAAGUAGAAAUAGAUAAUAGAGAAUUAUAUAUUUUUUCUUCCUCAUACAAAUAAGACUAACUUGAUGCAGUUUUAGUUUUCAAUUUUCAUUUGUAAUCUUUUCUUUUCUUUAUAAAAUUUCCCUUAUUUCCAAUUUAAUGAAUUUUCUAGUUUUUUCAAUUGAUCUUACUUUUCAAUUUUUUAGUUUUAGCUUAUAGAUUUAUAUUUCUAUUGAUUUCCUUAAUUUUUAACAUGCUUAGAUAACUUUUAACACUUUAAGAGGUGAGAGGAGUUGAGGUCUUCGAUAUCUUAGUUCAACUCUCUAUUGGUUUAGUUGUGCAUAGCUACAAAGAAUUUGAUCUUUGUUAGUAGUUACAAUGACUAAAAGGAGUAACCAUGGGGAUAAAAGUCUAUGUUGCAUCGGUUGUGACGAUCACAAGUCAAGCAACCUUGGGAGCAUGCUUAAGCAUUGUUUAAAUGAUUCUUUUAACUAAGCAUAAGCCUACUAACAUGAAAUAAAAAAAUAAAAAAAUAAAAACUAUCUAAAUCAUCUAGUUGCAUGGAUCCAAAAGAGGGCAAUUAGAGAGGAAACUUAUUCAGGUGGUUCUUGUUUAUUUCAAGAAGCAAUCUUUUUGGGUAAAAACCCUUAGCCUAAUGUUAAAGCCAAUAUCAUAGGUUCAGAGCCUUAGUGGUGAGUUGUACUUGAGAGUAAAAAUCCUAACAAACCUCUAAUCCUAGGGUUACUUUUUUUUUUUUUGCCUUUUAAACUCUUUCUCCCUUUCUUUCUUUCUUCUUCCUCUCUCUCUCUUAUUUAUAAAAUCAUUUUUUUGAUUUCAAAAAAUGGUGAAAUACAAAAUAGAACUAGCCUAGCAAAUUCGAUAUAUGUUAUGCCCAUGUGUUGCAUUCAAAUUGUAAUCUCUUGUUAAAUUCAUGAUAAAGUUUACUAGUAUUAUGAAAAGGUUUAGGGGAGUUAUAGAUAGUGAAAUGAUCGAUUCAAAUGACUUUGGCAUUAUGAGUGUAUGGAGCCUCCAUUGUAAAGGGCUUAGCAAUUGGGAUACACUACUAUGCUCUCCCGAUAGGGUUUGAAAUCAACCUAUCAAUGUAGUUAGAGUAUUUGACAACUAAUAAGGAAUUGGAAUACAAGGUCCUACUAGCUAGCUUACCUUUGGCAAAAGAGGUGGGGGUUUUCUGCAUACAAUUAUAUAACUAUUUGUAACUUAUUAUCGAAAAGAUCACAAGACAUGAUGAGGCUUGGAAACCUCAAUUAUGACCUUGCUAAAAUAUUAUUUAAGCCACUAUAUGUGACCUAUAGAGGUUCCACCUUAGCCUUAUCCCUAAAGAAGCUAACCAACAAGUAUAUACCCUAGCCACACAAGUACUAGCUCACCUACGGGAACCUCAAGUAUACGUUACAUAACCAAUAGUGGAAACAUCCCACUUUAUUGUUGAGGUUCAUUAUUGGAUCUUCAAUAACAUGCUUCUAAAAAAUCCCUAUCCUUUAGUACCUCCUCGAGAGGAAGCAAUUAUAAAGGGGAAAAUGAAGCACAGGGGCUCUAAAAAAAAGUUGUAAGGUCGUAUACUAUCAUGAAUUGUGCCAGCUCCUAUGAUGGACCCUACCUAUGUUGCAUAGAUGAGGAAGAUGCUCGAUAUAAUGAAAUUAUCUACAAUGACCUAUUAUUCAUUUCUUUGGGAUACCAUGGGUCAUAGUAUCAAACAAUGGAUUCCAAUUAACCACCCAAAACUUCUAAGAUUUAUAUAAGGAAAUGAGAAUUGAGAAUUGUUACCAUAUUUUGUGGUACCCUUAAGGCAUCCAACCAGCAAAGGCCAAUAAUAAGGUAAUAGUGCAUGAACUUAAGCAAAAAGUUGGAAAAAUCUAAGCGAAUGUGAGUGAAGCAACUUUUCACUAUACUUUGAUCUUACAAAACCACUCAAAGAACGUCUACCCGAGAAGCACCUUACUUUCUCACAUAUAGGAUAGAGGUGAUCAUUUUAACUAUGAUUAGAAUGCCAACCUUGUGUACCUAAAUGAGUAGCAAAGAAGUGCUUGUUGCUAGAAAACAAGAUUUUGAUCUAGUUGAAGAAAGAAAGCAAGUGACACCCAUAAAGAUGAUUAUCUACUAGAGCAAGAUAACCAAAAUCAUAAUGGAAUAAAAACAAGACCCUUGCAUGAAAAAGAUUGAGUUUUGAGAAGGACUUUCCAUGAAAGCUAAGAAGAUGAAAAAUUAUCCUCCCUGUGGAAAGGACGAUUCCUAAUUAAAAGAAUGGGGACACAAUGCAUAUUAGUGGGAUGUUCUUGAAGGAAAGUUUAUACCAUGACCAUGGAACAUGUGCCACCUAAUAAAAACCAAAAUUUAUUAUCUUUAAAUAAAGAGAAACCUUUGGAAGAAAAAUCAUCUAACCCCUAGUGGGCAUAUUUCCUUUUAACAAGCAUAUUACUCUAAUGGGUGCCUUACCUUUCAACGAGAAUCUCUUCCUUAAUGGGUAUCUUGCCUUUUAAUAGUCAUUUUAUCCUCAAUGGGAAUUUUGCCCUUAACAGUUGUCUUAUUCCCUAGUAGACAUCCUAUCUUUUAAUAAGAACCUUGUCUCUAGUAGGGUUUCUACCUUUUAAUAGGCAUCUAAACUAAAUAGGCACCUAAACCUAAUGGGCACCCUUCCUUUUAGCAUAACAAAGUAACAACAUCAAAGAUAAAAAUAGCAAAAUGUAAAGCAUAAAAAGGUCAUAAAGGCCAUCUAAUGUAAUAGAGGCACAAAAGCCAUAAACAAACCAUGACACAAUGGCAAACAAGUGUUUAAGGGUGUGCAGGCCAAACUCCAAAUAAACAACGUAUUAAUUACUCCUCCGAUCUAAUGCAGAGGACUUCAGAAUCUCCCAUAACUUGUAAUAAAAUUAGAGUUAUCUUCGAGGAUCCUUUUAAAGCAGGUUAGACACUAUUCUUGGCCUAGAUGGCUUGAUUAAAGGCUCCAAAAUUGGGUUGGUGUCUUUUGAGGCAUUUUCCUUUAACAUUUGGAUUAUCUCUUUAAGAUGGACUUCAUGCCUAGCAAUAUCCUCCCCUGAUGGAGCAAACUUGAUGUGCAAAAUUUGUGAACACUUGAACACUUAAACUACAUGGGCCUUGAAAUAAAUAAUGCAUUCGACCUUUAGGUUUUCCAUCUCCAUAAACUUUUCCAAUAAAAUUUGAAUACAAAUUUUUUUACUAUUGACAAAUGUUGUGCUCCCACUACUAACCUCCUUUAGCUUUCCCUUUAGGACCCACACUUCCUCUUGCUUCAAUCAAAGCUCUUCUAUGACCUUCCUAUAUAUAUGUUGCUCACUCAUAGUGUGGUCCUUAAGUGCUUGUGAUGUAACCCAUAAUACGAAGAGACCCACCAUCAGGAUGUUCACUCAAUCAAAUUGCACCCCUAGCUCCCUACCACUUAGUUCCUUUAAACUUGCUAGCACCAACUUAAUAUGGUUCAUGUUUCACCUCUUGAACAAGCAACCAAAUAGAGGGCAAAGACGCACACUACGACCAAAUAAAGGGUAGCCAAAAGGGGGGAAAAAGAAAAGCUACUCACAACAUUUGAGUCAAGAAAGAGGGAAAGCAUGGAAAAAAUCUCAUAGAUCAACAUACCAACCAACCAAAGAGUAGCUUAUGGAGCAUUAAAGAAAGAUAAUUAACCCACAAAGCCCCUAAGCUUCUGUCUUCUCAAAGGAAGAUUCCUGUAUGCAAAAUGGUGGAUAAGAGCCUAACUAAUAGUUUUGUCCUAUUAUUAUGAUUCCACUAUAAUCAAUUUGCUAGAAAUAGGAAGGUAGGAGAGGGUCCUUUAAAGAAUGGGGGACAUAUCAAAAUAGGAGAAAAAACAAUUAGGGGAACAUGAAAAGGAAUAGAUGAGAUCUAUAAUUGAAACCUCCAUGGAUUUAAUAGAGUUAAGUAGAUCGGAGGACUUAAAAAAUAAAAGCGAUUUUCUAGAUUCCUGAUAAGAGAGCAUGAGGGACCGAUACAUGAGAAAGGCACGUUUGGCUACCUACAACUCACCUAUACUUUUGUUUGAACAAUUUUAUGAAAUGAAAAAAGAUAUCUAACAUAGGAGGUGAGAAAGCAUGAGCCCAUAAGCAUGAUCAAACAAGGCUGUAAGUAGGUUUUGUUAGGAUGGAAUCAUAGAGUGGGUGCUCUAAGAUCCUAGAGCAACUAGAUCUAAGAACAACAGAAGCAUAUACAUUUCAAAUAUUUAGAUAUAGGUGUUAAAAGGCAUACCUUUACAUCUAGAUGUUCCUAGAUCAUACUCUAGUUAUUACAGGGAUCUAAAAAAACUUGGUGCUUCUACCGAUGACUUUGUCUUUAAUCCUUGGAACAAGUGUAAAGUGACUACACACCUUGAGAAAGAGAGUACUUAAUGUUUUCUCUAGAAGAGCAAUGAAUGAAUAGAUGGAUAGAUAGAUUGAUAACUUGACCUCAAACCCUCAUCAAUCUAACCUUAAACCCUAAGAGAGUUUAUAUAACUUCUUUUGUAAGCUAAUGUGACUUAGGCCCACCAUAGGCUAAGGUCACUUAACCUAGUCAACUAGGUACUAAUGAAUUAAAUAGUUCUAAUGAGCUUCAAUUAAUUAAGUGGCUUAAUAAAAAAAACUUAAAAUACACUACAAGAAAAUGUACUUUUCGUGACAAAAAUUUAGUGGUGAAUUCUACUUUUGUCGCUAAAAGUAACAUUUACCGAUGAAAUUUUAGAUGUUGUCAAUAAUGCCAAUUUUCUACAAACUUUUCCUAACAAAUUUGAAAUUUUUGUCAUUGAAAGAUGUGACAGGAAAAUUUGGCGUUUUGUUUUUGGCGCAAACACUUUUGUGACGAAAAUAAACUAUUUCCCUACGAAAAUAUUUAUCACUAAUUAUAAUUUUUGGUGAUGAAAAUAAUUUCCUCACUAAAAGUUACAACUUUUUAUCUAUUUUUGCUUACAAAAUGGUUUCGUCGAUAAUUAUAUUAUUUCCUAACAAAUUGAGUAAUUUUUUCAUCAAAUCAUGUUAUUAAAUUGUGAUAUUAAUAAAGAAUAUUAAUAAAUAAGUAGAUGAUUUAUACUAUGAAAUAAUAUAAUAUAUAUUUGUUGACACUUAAUAUUUAUACUAUAAUAUUUUAUUUAUAUAAAUAAUAAUAAAAAUUAAGGAUCCAUAAAAUUAAAUACUAGAAUGUAGAUUUAUUUAAAUUUAAAUGUUCUAUUAUGUAAUAAUAGUAUUGUUAUGAAAUAAAAAAAUGUAAAUUAUUUAAGCAAUUAAUAUUUAUAGUGUAACAUGUUAUUUAUAUAUAUAUAUAUAUAUAUAUAUAUAUAAAUAAUAACAAUAGAUAAUCCAAGAUAUGUAAGAUUACAUCCUAUGAUAUAAAUUUAUUUAAAUUUCAAUAUUAUUAUAUGGUGCUACACAUACAUAAAUAUUACUAAAUGAUUUUUAUUAUAUUAGGUAAAAGUUAUCCAUACAAGUCCAAUGUAGUAUUAAAUUUAUGUUAGCUAUGAAUAAGUUAUAGUCCUCUAAUUUGUUCUCAUUCAAAAUCAUACCUUAUCCACUCAAGAAGUAAAUUUCUACUAACAUUUAGUUACCUAGUUUAAAUUAAUAGAUUUUUUUUAAUUAUUACUUAGUUUUUAAAUAAUUGGUUAGAAUUAAAUUUCUCAAAUAAAUUGUCUAGUGUCUAUAAAAACAUUCUACCUACAUAAAAUUCCAAAUAUUAUUUAUGUGUAUGAAGAUAUCAUAUAUUAUUAAUAAAUAAAUAAGUAUAAGUUAAAUAUUAUAUGAUAUAAUAUAUUGCAAGUACUAUAUGCCUAGCUCUAUUUUCAUAUUUACAAAAUAAAAAAUGUACAAUAUAUAUAGCACAUGUGAAAUUCUAUAUAAAUAUAAAGUUUUUUAAAAAGUUUUCAAUCACAUCUUUAUUAAUAAUUGGUUAUUUUAUUUUUUAUUGAUCAAUUUUAUAUUUAUUUUUUUAAAUUAUUAAUUACUAAUUUAUCAAAAUUGAUUAGUUAUUAAGAAUAAAGUCUUAAAUUAUACCGCAAAUAACUUGUAAAGGAGUUUUUAUACUUGUAUGCAUUUUUAAUCAAAUAUUUAAAACAAAUAUAGUUAUAAAAAUAAUUAAAAUAUAUCAUAAAUUAUUAUAUGAUUUAUAUUUAUAGUGUUUCAUUAUGUUUGAUAUUUUUGUUUGGAAUAGAUGAGAAAGGGAAAGAAAAAAAAUGAUGUAGAAUCCUAAUUUCAUUUUGAUCAUUAUUUUAUUAAUGUCAAUAUGAGUAUUACACUUUGGCAUUCUCCUAACAUUGUCUUCCAAUUGUACUUUUAUUUUAUAUUUCAAAUUUAUCACUUUAAUCCAUAAGUCUGGAAUUGAAUUUAUUCUAGCUAUUAAUAAACUAUAGUCCUCUAAUUUGUUCUCAUUCAACAUUAGGUUUGUUUAGAGGUGACAAAAUUUGAUAUGACUUGUCAAUAUGACUUGAAUUUAACACCCUUUCAUGAUUUAGGGUUGAGUAUAAUUGAGUUCAAGUCAAAUUCAUGUCGACUUGCAUACCUUAUUUAAUAAAUAAAUAGUGUUGGCCUUAUGGGGGGGCUAACAACCACCCUAAUGGACUAUGGAGAGUAAGCUUAAAUAAUAUAAGAUCUCCAUUCUAAUCACCAAUUAGUUUUCAGAACAAAUGGGGGUCUUGUCAUAAGAUACUCCGUGGUUAAGCAUGUUGCAGCAAAAGAAAUCUUAGGAUGGGUGACCCACUAGGAAGUAUAGAGCACCUCGAUCAAUAAGUGGUAUCAGAGCCUGGUCACAUGAUUGAUGGGUGAGCUAGCACUGUGGGUGAAUGGUGAAGGCCUGGGGUGUGGCCAAGUUAAACAAAGACGGUAGGCUAUCACCGACUUUUGGGACAAAUUUGAUUUUUUUCGUGACAAAAAUUCUUAGUUUUGUCGAUGAAAUAUUUCGUUGGAAAACACUUCUAGUAACAAAAUUUUAUUUCAAGGAAAACUUUAGGCGACAAAAUAAGAUUUUUGUCAUGGAACUUUUAGUGACGGAUCUAGGGCGAUGAACAAGGCACGAAAGAAUUUUCAUUGGGGAAUGUUUUUGUAGGCAAAAUUUAGACUUUCAAUGACAAAAUAUUUUAUCGUUGAAAGUCAAUUUUCUUGUAGUGAUAAAUAGUCAUAAGUUUUUGUGCAACUUUUAUUUUUACCAAAAUGCCCUUAUGCACACAUAUGAUUAAUUAAACCCAAUUUCCUCAAAUCUUUAUGUCAAUAAAAAUUAUGAACUUGAGCAGGGAUCACUAGAACCCAUAGGAAAAUAUAAGCCCCCUGAUAAUCCAAUUCUAAAGUUGACUCAGCAUUCCACUAAAGAAAAUCAACUACAUUCCAAUGUCCUAUGAUAUUAUAUUGAGAUAAAAUUGAUUAAAUCUAAUUUAAUUAAUUUCUUAAGCUUGUGACCUACUGUCCGCUGCAGAUGGGUUCCUUAUGAGCUAAUGUCCAUAAUCUAAAGAGUUAAUAACUAUCAACCUUAGAAAAUUACCUCUAUAGGAUUACUUAUACAAUCCUUGAGUCUCACAUCCUCCUAUUUUGUGAUUAAUUGACAUACACUAGUUCAUAAAGAACAUAUCUUCAAUCCCACUUAAGCAAUUGUUGUGGCAACAAAUUUCAUAAUCACAAGUUAUUAGGAUCACCUAAUAGGAGACACCAUAUUAAUCUCAUGAGAUAUCAUAAUGCCUUUGUUGAAAAUGUUUAGUGUCACUUGCUUUAAUUAAUAGUGACCCAAUCUAUAGGGAAUUUGUGACCACCUUAGAGUCUUAUCCACAUGUUGAACCCUUUAAAGACCUUAACACUACCUUAAUAUUCUCUUAUGAUUGAAAGUCUAUGUAACAUAGUAACUUCUUAAAGUCAUAACUACUUGGUAGACAAUGUCAUGAUUCAUUGUAAGUCUUGUCCAAUUUGUAUACACACUAGUGAACUCAUCAAGGGAAACCUAACUCAAUAACCAAGAUAAGUCAUCCCUCAAAUUAGGAAAUAGUGCACUAAAACUUUAAAUGGAUUGCCUAAGUCCCCAAACUUACUCUGAGUAACUCAUUAACCUAUAAGGAACCCAUGACAUGAAUCUUUUAUGCACUCUUAACAUACCUAAGUCAUGUACAAUGCAAAUGAUGUAAGUUUGAAUGGUCUUAUAAGUAAUAAUGCAAUCAAGGAUAGAAAAUUAGAAAUUGAAAUCAUAAUAUAAAUAUAUUGAAGAAACCUCAUUUUGUUAGAUCAUAUCAUGCUUUUAAAGGCUCUAUCUUAACAGUUUUGACACGCUAGAUGAAGACAUUUUUAAGACACACUCUUCUUUCUCUAAGUAGCUAUGAAACUCGAAAAAGUUAUAGAUAAUCAAAGGAAGAUUGUUUUGUUUAAAAAUUCCUUCUAGAGUAAAAUUUGAGGAGAUAUUGUGUGGUGGAAUGAUCUCCUAACAAUAAAGUAAAAGAGGGUAGGUAAAUUGAAAGGAGAAAAAAAAAGAAGAAUCAAAGAAAGAAAGUAAUCAUGCAAUUUAGGCCUUAAAAGCCACAAGGGACUCGAAAAUGGAUAUCCUUGUGCUCUAAACCUUCCUAAUCACUAAAGACCAUUAGUAAACCCUUUUUUCCUAAGCCUUGUUGGAGUCAAGGAGUUUCAACACUAAAUCUCUAUCAUUAAAGUUUGGCAUAAAAUCAUCAUUUUUACCCUUGUGCAACUUUAUUGAACAAGGAAAGAGUACCUUUCCUAAAUUGACAUAUUGUCCCUCUAACAUGUUGAGGAUAAUAGUACAAACCAAGAAUGUGACGAUGGUAAGGUUAACUCUAAUGAGAAAAACCCUAGAAAAAUCAUAAAGCUAACAAAUAGUGGAAGAAAAGAGAAAUGAAUGUUAGCCUGGAUGUGGGCAAUCAAGACAUCAUCUCCUUUUGAGAACUCAUAAAGUUAGUCUAAGAAAAACAACCCACUCAACAUAAGAAUAGGCCCCUUAGCAUAACUCUAUCAGGUCUAAAAAUCCUUGGAGCACUUGACUAAGAAGUCCUUGUUCUUUGCCAUAAAAAUUGAAACCCAUACUUGCUCAAAAAACCCAAGAAGAGGAAAAUAGGUGUAAGAAUAAGCCUCAAAGUACUAUUUAGUGAAGAACCACAAAGAGGCAUGAAGAGGGCGAGACUUAACUACCCAUUAAUGCGUAACACUCUAAGAAUCUCAAAAUGCUCCUUGCAUAACAAAUUAUCAUAAUGAUGUAUGGCAUUUUUAAAUCUUCCUCAUCCCUUACGAACUGUUGUCAAAGAAAAAUGAGGGAAAAAUAUAGGGGUGCUUGGUAGAAGAAGGCCACGUGUUAGCAAGAGAAUAGGUAACCAAAACCCUAGGUAUGAUUAUGCUUAUAUCUGAACCCCUUGCACAAGUGCUAAAUGAUUGAUCACUCGCCAACAAGCAUGAAUGAACAAUAAAUGCUAACUUAGACCAUACUCAUGUGACCUUAACAAAGUCUAUGCCUUGAUAUACGGAAACUCCAACUACUCCCUCAAAGGCCUUGUAUAAAAGUGACCACAACCUCUAUGCCAAGUAAGUAUUCUAAAAUCCAAGAAAUUAGCCUUUUGGAUUGACACUCAUUCAUCUAUUAGUUCCCUCAUUCUUUCUACGAACGACAAAAAAAUCAUGAUAAAUCGACAAUAUGUUAACAAAAUAUCGAAUUUUGAUUGGCACUAAAGCAACACAUAGUGGAGAAAUUUCAAUCAACCAAUUUUUUUUUAAUCAUUUUUCGGGGUAUUUAUGGGUUUUUUUACCAAUUUUUUUAGUCUAGUCAACAUGUGGCUGGCUCGGUCAAACUGCCUACUCAGUCAAAAUCAAUCAAACUUCAAAAGUGAACAUGGUUUGAUGUAGGGGGGGUUUCGAACCUAGACAAAAGGUUCUACACCUACACCACAUGACCAUUGGGCAUUACCCUUUAAUCAAUAUCAUUCACUAAUAUAUAUAUAUAUAUAUAUGUAUGUACGUAUGUAUGUAUGUAUGCAUGUAUGCAUAUAUGUAUGCUGAGAAAUAAAACUGUCAUUGCAGGUAGAUGGUGGAAAUCCUUGUUAAUAUUUUCAAUCUCAUCUUCAUCCCAACUAAAGACCAAUCUUGAAAAUUGAUGUCCAUCUGCCUUUCUUAUUUCUCAUGUGCCAAACUUAUUCUUAAUUAUGCUCUUAUUCCAUGGGCUUUGUGGUGUAUCAGAGUCUUACUAUCCAUUUAUAACACAAAAUGACCUAUUAUAUAACAUAAAAUCAAAUAAAUAAUAACAUGCAAUUGUGUGCCUUAUAUUUAAUUUUUAUUCAACAAAAUUAGGGAUAUUCAUAUAUUUUGGUAGAAUUCAUUAAGCUUAUAUUUGGUUGGGAUGAAUUUUGAUAGAAAUUAAGAAAUAGAAAUAAAAUAUAUAUAUAUAUAUAUAUAUAUAUAUAUGCAAAAAUAUAAUUUUUUUCCCUACUGUUUAUUUUACUAUGAAAAAAUUAAAUGAUAUAAAAUUAAAUAUACCUAAGAAAUGCAUUUUUAUUCCCAAAUUGUUUCCAACUUUUCUGAGGAAAGUGGAGAAAAAAUUUUAGAAUUCCUCCUGCCUUUUUCUGUAAUAUUUUUCUUACAUUUUCAUGUCAUCCAAAGCCAUGAAAAUUAAUUAUUCUUUUCUCUAUAAACAAAAGCAAGGGAGAUGCAGCGAAAAACACAAAGAAAAUUAAAAGAGUCAAGCGAGUAAAGAAACUAACAGUGAUAUAUUAUGAGUUCCCAUAACUCGAAGCGAUUUCCACUUCGGAAAGCCCAAGGCCUUUUAGCCAAUACCGUCAAAGGGGUUUUAACAUCAUCAGAAUCUUUAUCAUCAUAAGAAUCUUUAGCAUCACCGAAAUUGCAUGUGGCAAGGUCAGGAAAACGUUUAACCAGAUACAGUGCUACAUCUGCAUAUUACAAAAUUGUACAUGGGAACCCGACGGUAAUUCAUAUCAAGAAAAUAGAUAGGGGAUGGUAAAUAUAGCUCACCAUGAAACCCCACCAUUAGUGCUCUGUGCAGAAGUAUGACUCCAGGCUUGUCUGCGAAAGGACUUGGAUCUACAUCAUCUCUGGUGACGCUUAAUAAAUAUAAAGUCAGCUCUUUAUGACCAUACCUAAGAGCGCUGUGAAGAGGCACUAAAUUGCCUUGGUUGCAGGUAUUGAGCAAGCUUGGGCUUUUGUUCACUAACAACUUGACUGCUUUUAUAUUGUCAGCCCUUACAGCGUUGAAAAGGGCAGUGGCGCCAUCAGAAUCCUUCAGAGCCAGUUUAUCUAUUGGCAUAAAGUCAACCAACUGCUCCACGAAACCCAUUCUGGCCUCUCCUAACUCAACUGCUAUGUGAAGCAUUGUUGAAUUAUCUAUUCCGAUCGGGGCGUCCAAUAAUUGUGGCUCACGCCCCAAUAAUUCUGAAGCACUUUCCCAGUCACCAUUGACCACAGCUUUGUACAGUUCCGAGUAAUAGAUUAUAUCUGCAUCAUAGAAUUCUGCAGUCACAAAACCAAAAGAUGUAUAGGUCAGCCUAGAUUUCCCUGAUAUGUAUAUUUCUUCAACGUUCACAACAUCCUAAUACUAAAAUUACUUUUUUAAAAAUAAAUCAUUUAAGUUAUGUUUGGUUCUUAGAAAAUUUGACAAAAAUUACAAGGAAAAGAAAGUAAAUUGAAAAAAAUAGCUAGAAGGUGAGAAAAAGUGAAAUAAAAUAUAUCUAAAAUCAAUAAAUUAAUUAUUUUUAUAUGUUACUCAUUUCACUUAUUUUAACUAUUCAAUAUAAAAAUUAAAUAAUUUAAAAUUUCAUAAAUUUAUAACUAAUUUUAAUUAUAUUUGAUUUUCUUAAAUAUUUUUUUCGAUAUAACCAAAUAUGGGAAAAUCAUUUUGCUUGAUAUAUUGCCUUUGCUAAUUAUUUUCUUGGACUUCUUUGUUUACCUCUAAUCAACAUCUUUAUAUCUUUCAAUAAUAGUUUGAACCUCCAAUAAACUACACGAAUUAAAAUUUAAUUUAGUUUCAUUUGUUUUUUUAACAGCAGGUUGUAAAACAGUUCUACUUGUAAACUAAUUAUGCCCAAAAGUUGCAUAAGGACUUGGGCAUGAACAUGGUUUUUAGAAUCUUACCGGAGCUGCUAGUUCUUUGCAAAGAUGAAGGGGAAGAGACUGAAGCAUUGUUUGGGCUGUCAUCAUUACCGAGAUGGUAAUGAAGAGGAAGCCAUUGCAGUACACUCCUCAUCAUCCUCAGCAAUGUCGAUGUUACUGUUUUUAGGACGUAGUGAAGAAGAAGAAGUCAUCACAACAAAUUCCGAACAUGAAACUUUGGUUUAUUCGACUCUUUCAUUAUAGACGGAUAAAUUUCCAAAUUUAAGACAUAGACAAAAUUAAAAAAAAAAAAAAACUUUACUUGAUAUAUGAAUACCAAAAUAAUAAUAUUGUGUGUAACAAAAAGGAGAAUGAAUCCUGGUUGAAUGAAUAGUGCAUGCAGAAUCUUCAACUGCAUUGACCCAAAAGAUCAAACCGAUAGAAAAAAAAAAUGAAUAUAUUAGAAUUCAACUAGGUCAACCACAUUCCAUCCAAGUCAAAUACCAGCCCACAAUCGCAGCAAACAAAGACUAGCUAGCCAGUGCGUUUAAUUUCAUCCAAUAAGAAUUCCCUCAAGCAAAAAGCCAGGAAACAGAAGUAGUAGGAAAGCCCUAGCCUUGCACCAAAAAAGUCUCGUCUCAUUGCUGGGAGUGCAUGCAUCCAUGCAGGAUCUGUUGGAUCAGAAAUUGGAAGAGCUAAAGUCCAGGACAUACAGAAGCGGUCGCCGGAGCCAAACCUAGUGAGCUUCCAUUUAAAGAUUAAAGCUAUGUUUGGUUCCCGAAAAUAUUAAUUUUCUACCAUGUAUCCAAGGGAAUCAAGGGCCUCAUAUGAUUCGAUGUUAUAAAGUCGGCCUCUACAAUUUAGAUUAAAAAAAUAGUUUGUUUCAAAGGAUAAUCCAUCAAAGAAGAAUGAAACAACAUUCUCAUCCUAAUCUUCUAACCUAACAUUGGUGAAACUUUUUAAACUCGUUUUCUUUGAAAUUGAUCAACUGAUCCAUGAUGGAAAACGACCUACAUGCAUGAAAGCAACCUAGGUAGUCUUCAAAGUCCAUUUUAGCCAUAAAAAUUCAAACACCCAACUUCUAAAACUAGAAGAGGUUGAACUAAAAACGAAAGAGAUCGAAACUAAUGAUUCUAUUCUUAACAAAAAUUCAUAGCCUACCCAACCUCACACGAAAACACUUCUUGAAUUGGUUGGCAUCACUUCCACAUGGAAAUGGCAUCAAAAAAUGCAUGCGUCUCAUAGUUGUAUUCUUAUUGUUGACUAGUGUCCCAUGUCACGCCCCAAGACCCACUCCAAGGGCGUGACGGUCAUUUCACACCUCAAACCCGAAGGCUUAAAGUAUAAUCUGACCCAAACAAUCAUAUUGUAAUUGGAUGUUACCAAUUACCAAAUACCUGUUCAGAGUAGCGGAACAAAAUCUAAAAUCCUAAAAAUUUAAUUUCCAAAUAACUUCCAAAUAUCAAAUGAUCCAAAUAAAAGUUGCAGAAGGACCUCAAGCGGAAAUGGACAUGAACAUGGUUUUUAGCAUCUUACCGGAGCUGCUAAUCCUUUGCAAAGAUGAAGGGGAAGAGACUGGAGCAUAUUCAUCAGCAUUCUGCGCCAUAUUGAUGCUACUACGGUUAGGAUUGUUUGGGCUGUCAUCAAUUACCGAGAUGGUAAUGAAGAGGAAGCCACUGCAGUAAACUCCUCAUCAUGCUCAGCAAUGUCGAUGUUACUGUUUUUAGGACUGUUUGCGCUGUUGUCAUUUCUAGGACGUAGUGAAGAAGAAGAAGCCAUUACAACAAAUUCCUUAUCGUUCUAUAGUAUUGCCAUGUUUAGCGAAGUUAUUCUAAUGUGUAACAGAAAACCUAAACAAAAUCUGCAGUUGACAAAGGUCAAAAUUAACUUACCUCGCAGAUGGAAGAUUAUAUUUAACUAUAUCAAGGCAGAGAAGAUACUCUCAUCCAAAGAGAAACAACAGCAGCCCUUUUUCCCACUGUCUUCAAAAGAUACAGGAACCAUUGAAGCAUAAGAGGUGCAAUGAUAUAGUCUUCCAAGUCAACUUUAUUUAGUUGAGUAUUGGGUAAGGAGUAGACAUGAUAAACAAUAGUAAACAUGUAUCAAAUAUAAAAAAUUUCUCACAAGUGAUGCAAUUAACAUUUUUUUUCUUCAAUAAUAUGUAUAAUAUAUACCAUGUGAUGUAUUAUUUAUACUUUAAGCUUUGUUUGGAUAUAUUUUUUAUUUUUUAUAUAUAAAAAAUAAAUUAUAUUUUAAAAUUUGUGUAAUAUAAAAAAGUUAUUAUUUUUUAGUAUUUGAUAUAAUACAUUUAUAUAUUUAUUAAAUUAUGACAAUAAAUGAAAAUAAAGUGGAGAGGACGAUGUAGGUUGGCAAACCUUUCUGGAGUGAAUGCAGCGCAGCAAAAGAGAAGGUACCAUUAACUUGAAUGCGAGAAGGGUGAUUGAUCUAUCAAUCUGUACGUGUCCUUCUUGAAAGGGACCAGAUUUUAUGGGGUUGCUUAAGGAUUAAUGUGGGUGCCUGUAGCAUGAAAGUGAAAAGAAUUUUGGGUCACCAAGGCGCCUCCCAUAAAAAUAUAUCUUUUAGGUCCUUUUUCCCCAGAGUGUCCUAUCAUCCUCUGAUAAAAAUAAAAUUUUAAUUAAUAAUUAAUAAUUAAAUUUUUAAUUCAAAAAUAAAAUUAUAAUUAUUAAUUAAGAUUUUGAUUAAAAAAUAAAGCUUCAAUGGAUAAUUAAAACUUUAUUUUUAUCUCAAAUUUUAAUUGAUAAAUAAAAUUUUGGGCUAAUAGUUUUUAGUAAAAAAGAUUUAUAUUCUUUCUUUGGGCAAAUUGAACAUAGACUUAGAUUUCACUUAGAAUGAUAAACAUUCAUGGAGCCAAAUGUAAAUCCGCACUCUUGGGCAUAAUAUUAUUGAGCCAUUGGUUACCAAAAAUUACUCUAAGGUAUCAUACCCACCUUUUAGGCCAAUAAAAUUAAGAAACAUGACAAGGAAAUUAAAAAAACCAAUUCUCCAGGUUUAGCAUGGUUGCCGAGGGAAUUAAUCAUGUGCACCACACAUUGCUAUGAUCGUUUGCAAUAACCAAUUAUAUAAAAUCUGUUGAAAUAUUUUUGUAAAAUGAUAAAAUUUUACAAAAAUGAUAAUUUUUUUUGUAAAAUAUAGAAAAGGAUACAAGGCUAUUAGUUCAUAAUUGCAUGAUAACCUUUUAGUAUUUCAAUCUUUGAUUUUUUUUGGAGAUUAUUUCCAUAAAUUCCACAUUCCAAAAACAAUGAUAAUCUUUACACAAUAUUAUUGUUAUUUAAAAUGGGAAAAAAAAUAUAAAAAAUAAAAAUUUCAAAAAAAAAUUAGAGAUCACAAAGAAUACAAGGAUACGAAGAAGGUGAGGAUUGUCAUAUUUUUUGUACUCUCCUCACAUUCUUCAUGCCCCAAACCAUUUGAAUAUUUUAAUCUUUUAAUUGUUCCAAACAUUAUUUACUUCAAUUGCAAGUGUAAUUAGCGUUUUUACACAAUAUUAUUUUCAAAUGAAGUAAAAAAGAAAUUCAAAAUUAAAAAUUUCAAAAAAUUUAGAGGGUACGAAGAAUGUGAAGAGCCUCACAUUUCUUGUACCCUCCUCAAAUUCUUCGUACCUAUUGUAAUUUUUAAAUUUUUUAAUCUUUCAAUUUUUUCGAACAUUAUUUGCUUCAAUUUCAAGUGUAAUAAAGAUUUUUACCCAAUAUUAUCAUCAAGUGAUGUGAAGAAAAACUUAAAAUUAAAAAAAUUUAGAGGGUACAAAAAAUAUGAGAGAGGAGGGUGUGAGGAAUGUAAAAAAGGGUAUGAGAAAUGUGAGGGUACAAGAAAUGAAAAAAAGAAAAAAAAAAAAUCUCAUACCCUCCUCACUUUCUUCGUACCCCUACAAAUUUUUUAAUAUUUUAAUCUUUCAAAAUUUUUGAACAUUAUUUGCUUCAAUUUCAAGUGUAAUUAGUCUUUUUACAAUAUAUUAUUAUCAAGUCAAUUUAAAAAAAUUAAAACAAUUUAGAGGGUACAACAAAUGUGAGGAGGGUGUGAGAAAUGUGAAGAGGGUAUGAGAAAUAUAAGGGUACAAGAAAUGAAAAAAAAAAAAAAAAAUUCAUACCCUCUUCACAUUUCUUGUACUCUCCUCACAUUCUUUGUAUUUUCACCAAUUUUUGAAUAUUUAAAUUUUUUUUCAAAUAUUAUUUGCUUCAAUUUCAACAAAAUUCUCAUACCCUCACAUUUUUCAUACCCCACCAAUUUUGUACUAUUUUAAUAUAUAAUUUUUUUUAAACAUUAUUUGUUUCAAUUUCAAGUGUAUUUAGUCUUUUUACACAAUAUUAUUGUCAAGUGAAGUGAAAAAAAAAAAACAUAAAAUUAAAAUUUUCAAAAAAAUUAAAGGGUACAAAAAAUGUGAGAAGGGUAUAAAGAAUGUGAAGAGGGUGCAUAAAAUGUGAGGGUAUAAGAAAUGAAAAAACAAAAUUUUCAUCCCAUUCUCACAUUCUUUGUACCUUCACCAACUUUUAAAUAUUUUAAUCUUUUAAUUUUAACCCAUCUAACCCUUAUAAAUCGUGUCAUUAAGGAAUAUGAGCUCAAAGUAAGGACCAUUGGGAUCCAUAGGAGUAUUGGCUCCCUUAGAAUCAAAUUCUGAAAUUGAUUCAACAUCCCACUAUAGAGAGUCAACUACACUUUAAUAUCCUAUGUAUAUUACAACAAGACACCAAGUACUUGGGUUUAUGAUCUACUAUCUAUUGCAUGCAAACUCCCUAUGAACCGGUGUCCGUAAUCUAAUAAGGUAGUGUUGUCACCUAUCAAGAUUACCCCUCAAAUCCUUUAGUUAAAAAUCACACUUAUUAUGUGAUCAAAUGACAUACUCUACCUUUAAGGGGCAUAUGUCAAAUUCCACUGAAGGAAUUACUAUGACCACUGAUUUCAUGAUCACAUGCCCUCUGGAUCACCCAAUGGGACAUAUUGUCUCAAUCUAAUGAGAUAUCAUGGUGCCUCUAUUGAGAAUACCUAUUGUCAUCAACCUCCAUCAACAGUGACCCAAUUCAUAGGGAUAUAUGACCGCUUUAGGGUUUCACUCAUAGGUUAAAGUCUUCUAUUAAUUUUGGCACAAAUUCAAUAUCCUCUAAAGUUGAGAGUCUAUGCAGUAGAGUAGCUUAGUGAAUCAUGAUAAUUUAUAGUCUUGCGUCAUGAUUCACAUAGGUCCUAUCUAGUGUGUAUCACAUACAUUAGUAUAUUCAUCAUAGGAAACUCAUCCCAACGACCAAGACCAGUCAUCCCUCCAAUUAGGAGGUAGUGCACUAUAGUCUCUACUGAAUUGCCCAAAUCCAUGAUCCAACUAUGGACAACUUAUCUACUUAGAAGGAAUCCAUGACUUAUACAUCUGUGCAACUCCUAAUGCACCCAAAUCAUGUACAAUGUAAGAAACAUGGGUUGAAUGUUCAAAUCAGUGUCAAUACACUAGAGGGAUAACAAGGGGAUAGUUAAAUCUAACUUUGUUACAUCAUGUCUUACUUAGUUAAGUUUAAUUUUAUUACAUCGUAUCUUGCUUUUAGGGGUUCAAUUCCAACAAACUCCUACUAGCCCCAAAAGUAUACUAUGUAUUGUAGAAAAAAUCUACUCUACAGUCACGUCACCUUUCUAUACUAUCCCACAGCAAGGUAUCACUUGCUUUUUAUAUGUUCCCUCUUAUAGUGGUACUUUAGUUCUUUGGACUAUGCCACCAUCCUAGAUAAUAGUAUCUUAAACAAUACAACCAAUGGAAAUACCCAUAAGCCAAAGGCUUCCUUUGUUGCCAUAGAAGUAACAAAAACCACUUAGAGUGUACACAAUCCAAGAGGUAGACAUGCAAGAGUCCUCAUCAGAAUGAAAGUCCAAUUUCUCGAUACAAGGACUCACAAACAUAUAAUCCUUCAUUCUCUAUGGAUACUAGAGUAUAUGUUUGACAUUCGCCUAAUGAAGAAAUGAACUAAUAUCUACUCAUUAUUCCUAUAACAAAGCAAAUAUCUGGUCUAGCACAUAUCAUUGUAUGCUUAAGGCUAUCCAUUGCAAAGGCAUUAGAUACCAUCUUAAUGCGAUCUCUCUCCACAUAUGUCCAAGGACAUUGAUCUUAAGAAAGAUAACUCCAAAUCCAAAGAGUAACAAACCUUUCUUAGAGUUUUACAUCAUAUACUUGACCAAAUGCUCAUUAAUGUAGAUGACAUGGCACAAUUUUUCAUAUUCCUACAAUGCUAAAGGACCUUAACCCUAUGAAUAUAUUAUGCCUUCAUCUAGAUUUUUAUCUAGAACUGAGUAAACAACUAGAUCUUGACAGAUGAAAAUAUCCUUACAUCAUAUCCAAUGAGUAGAUUAUCAUCUACCUACAAGAUCUUAGAGCAUUACCAUGCUCCCCUAUGCUUUCAUGUACACACAAGGCCCAUUGCUAUGAAAAUGUUUGGUUGCUAUAUCUCAUAAAUGAGACACAAUGCAAUAGAUAAGAGUAAUCUGAUAGAUUUGAGUAUGAUCACUAUUGAAAAGGUUUUCCACAGUUGAAACAAAGUUUCAAACUAUAACCUUUAGCUAUAGUCUUAGCCACAUAAAACUCAAGCUUUCCAUCUACUCUUGUAGACCAUCUUACACCUAUGAGUUUUAUCCCUUUAAGUGCUUCUAUAGGAACUCAAACUAUGUUAAAAUGCAAAGAUUCUAACUACCUCUUCAUAGCUCAUUACCUUAAGUGAGCAUAAACACUACUCAAUGCUUCAUCAUAAUCUAUGACAUAUAAACUUCCCAUUAUGAUAAGGCACUGUUGUACUCAAAAUCAUAGGAAUGGUAUGCCUUAAACCCUCUAGAUCCAUAGUAUCAUAUGCAAUGUGGGACUAUCUUCUAAUAUAUCUUCCAAUCAUUAUCAUUUUUUGCCUUAUUCCUUAUAAUAUAGUUUUCAUAAAACAAAAUUGACAUUUGUGUUAACAAAUAUCUUCUGAUGAUCCUAACUAUAAAGGUAAUAACCUAAAAAUCCUCUUAUACAUCCUAUAAAUUGAUAUACCUCUUAAGAAAAAGGGUAAUCACCUUUUUAAAAAAUAGUAGGUAAAAUAUACUUGAUACAUACCUUCAACCACUACAAGAAAAAAGGUCAUUGUUGACAUAUUAUUAUCUUGACUUAAGGUGAAAUGUGUCAAUGUUGCCUAUUUUAAUGAACAACUAUGACAUAUACAACUUGUUUAAACCAAUAAUGACAUAUAUAAAAUUUGUUGAAUUCUUUCAUGACUUAUAUAGUAGAAUCUUGACAAAUAAUUUAUGAGUCAAUGUAUUCAAGGUACUUAAAUAAAAGCAAUAAUGAUAAUAAUUUGUUUGAUAUGUGUAUAUCUAAUUUACUUACUAAGUAUUAUAAAUUGAAGUGACAACAAUCAAUUUUGAUUAAGGAAGUUAAUAUUUAAUAAAUUUUUUUAGUAAUGUUAAUAUCAAUUUUCAUUUUUUUUAUCAAAUUGAUUAAAUCAUUUUUUAGUCUAUAUCAAUAGCACUGAAAUAAAUUUGUGUACAUAAUUUUUUAUGCACUAAUUUUAGUGAAAUAAAAUUUGCUACAUUAUGGUUUUUUUAUAAUUGGAUAUAAAUAAAAUCAAUACUAAUAAAGUAUUUUUUUUAUUCAUUGAUGUUAAUGAUUUUUUUUUUUUUUUUUGAGUUUGUAUUAAUAUAAUAUUUUUUUCAUAAACUGUUUUUCAUUAUUUUUAAAUUAGUAAGUAACUUGUAUUUGAUUUAAAAAUAAUUAAUAAAUUUGUGUAAGCUUGAAAAUUAAGAUAUUUGGAAUUUUGAUUUAUCAAUUCUUCGGCAUAAUAUCAGGUUUCAAAAUUUUAUUUUUUAAGUUAACUCAUACAAAUUUAGACAUUAGGAAAGAAGAAAAUUAAUUAUGGAAAAUUGACAUUAUAAAAGUUAUAAAUAUAUUCCAUGAAUUGAUUUUCAUAAAGAUAUUAUUAUUAUUAGUAUUAUUAUUAUUAUUAUUAUUUGUUUAUUUACUUUAUGUUUUUAUUUUUUAUUUUAUUUUCAUUUCUUUUUUAAAAUGCUUAUUUUAUUUUAUUUUAUUUACCUAAAAAAAAGGGCUUUGAAAAAUGUAGAACAAUCCAGCUCCAUUCGGGAAAAAUCUCUCUCUAGAUUGAUGGUUCCUGUUGAGUGGUAGAAAGAGAAAUUAGGUUUUUGAUUUUGAGAAGCAAUCUUCUAGGUUUUGACCUUUAAGGCAAAAACUACUCAUCAAAACGCAUUUGUUUCCGAUUAUCUGGUCUUAGCCACAUCUUAAUUAUUCAUAAAUUUUUAGCCCCAAAAUUCAUUCUGUUCUUAUUCAAAUCAAUAUCUGAGUAAGAGUAUGUCUGUGUCAUUAACCCAUAUUUCUUGGUGGUUAUGGAGUGGAAAACACCAAGAGCCCAAAAGACUCUCCAAUGGAUCUUCUUUAAAUUCUUCUCAAGAUUCAGGUUUGUGGGAGUCGGAUGCUUUGAAAUUCCCUUUAGUUAAGGGGACUUCUUCAUUCACAUUUCAACUCUUUUUUUCUCCCAGAACCUCUUGAUUCUCUGAAUCUCAAAGUCUCCCAAUCUCCCGCACCUCGAUCCACGCAGAUCUCCGAUUUUUGCUAUUUUUUAUUUUUUUUUUCUUCGUGAGAAUUUUCAACCUAGGGUUUUGAUUUUGUAUGUUCUAGUUUUUGCUUCGAUCUCCUCGAUCUCGGUUCCGAAUUCACCCAAGGUUUGAUCGUUUGAUUGUUGGAUUGUUUGGUUCAUCUCAUGGAGGCGAUCGAUGAGCUCAUGCAGCUGUUAGGGUCUAUGUGCUAGGCCGCGGCACUGCUGGCGGAUGAAGAUGUGGAUGAGAAUUCGAGUUCCAGUUCUUCUCAUAGGGGUUCAACUUUUCUUAACGUUGUUGCUCUUGGAAAUGUCGGUGCUGGUAAAUCUGCAAUUUUGAACAAUUUGAUUGGACAUCUUGUUUUGCCUAUUGGAGAAAAUGGUGCUACUCGGGCUCUAAUAUGUAUUGAUUUACAAAAGGAUUGUUUCCUAAGCAGCAAGUCGAUCAUCUUACAAAUUGCCAACAAAUCUCAACAAGUUUCUACAAGUGCUCUUCGACAUUCUCUCCAGGACAAGCUGAGUAAGGGUGCUUCAGGCAAGAACCGAGAUGAAAUAUAUUUGAAGCUACGAACUAGUACAACACCUCCUCUGAAACUGGUUGAUUUGCCUGGAUUGGAUCAACGGAUUAUGGAUGAGACAUUGGUGAGUGACUAUGCUCAGCACAAUGAUGCCAUUUUGCUGGUUAUUGUACCUACUGCCCAGGCACCUGAAAUGGCUUCAUCUCGAGCUCUCAAAAUUGCUAAGGAAUAUGAUGGAGAUGGUACAAGAAAAAUCGAUGUAAUUAGUAAAAUAGAUCAAGCUGCAUCAUACCAGAAAAUCCUUGCUGCUGUUCAGGCUCUCUUGUUAAAUCAGGGUCCUCGAAGUACAUCUGAAAUGCCAUGGGUUGCUUUAAUUGGGCAAUCUGUUUCAAUUGCCUCUGUCUGGAUCUAUUGGGUCUGCAUGAGUUUGAUAGCGUGCCUAAAAGAAUGUCUAUUGUCAUCAAAUUCCCCAACGAUACUGUGAAAGACUUGGUGAAAGGUGUUGAUUCUUAAAUGUUUAGCAUUUUAGCAAAAGACAGUGGGAGGAAUAGUCAUGUAAGGCCGGCAACUCAGAGCCAUUUCACUGAAUAUUCAUCACAAGGCUUACUCACACUUGUAGUUGCUGCUAGGGAUAUUAUUGAUGAGGAACUUUCAGAGUGGCAGUGUAAGUAUGAAAAUGCAAGCACUUCAUUGACUGAUAGAUCCGUAAAACUUCAUCAAACAACAACUUUCAUUGAAUGCAAAUUAAAUCUUCUUGGGUCUACUAGGAUGAGAAUAAGGCUUCCACUUUGAACCUCCACUACACAUCAGUUUAUUUUUUGUAAAAAAAAAAAAAAAAAGAAUGCUGCCACUUUAAGAAUAUGGCACCACCAGAUUUUGUGAAAGGCAUCCACACAUGAAUUUGGAGGGCAACCAUACCAUGCAAAGAAGAUGAUUGCCACUUUAAGAAUAUAGGUUUAGUUAUUUUUUAUUUAUUAGUCUUUAAUCUUAUCAUUAUUAUUGGUGAAUUAACCUCACUUUUGUAGAAUCAUUGACGCUUGCUAUAUAGGUACGCUCUCUCUCUUCCCAUUUUAAAGUUUCAUGAAUAUGUAUGUCAUUAAGAACUAUAUCCUCAUUUGAUAUUGACUUUGGGUGCCUUGAUAUUCAUUUGAUUUCCUUUGAUAAAAUGCAUGUUGAGUAAUAUAAUACUUGAAAAUUGCUAUUUUGAUACUUGUUGCUUACUUUGCUAUUAACAUGUGUCUAUCCUACUAGGUAUUCAAGAAAUAUAGCAAAAAAGAAGAAGAAGAUGAAGAAUUAAUGACCACCUCUUAUGAAGAUAGUAUUGUACUUUUUAAUUUAAGUUUAUAUAUUAUCUUAAUUGAAUAUUUGUAAUUAGUUUUUUUUUGUAUAUAGAAAAUAGAGAGUAAAUAGAAAAAGAUUUAUUCCAUUGUGUUUUUAAUAUUCAAAUGUAUCUAUAACAAUUUUUUUCCCUUGAGUAAUAGUUUAUUUACAUUGUUUUAGGACUUAGUUAUUAUUAUCAUAAUUAAAUAUGUAUCAAAAUUAAUUUGGAAACAAGUUUCAUAUGGUAACAAGUUUAUUUUCCAUUAAAACUAAAAAUUAUAGUAAAAUAAUAUUAAAUUUGUCAUAGGCAACCUUGACAGAUGGCCAAUGCCCAACAUUGACAUUGCAAUAGCUAGAAACCUUCACAUAUUAUACUUAUCCUUGACAUUUGUUGUAGCAACCUUAACAGAAUAUCAAAUUAACAUUGACAUAUGAUAAAAAAAUCUUGACAUAUGUUGAAUCCAACCUUGACAAAAGUGAAAGAAACAUUGACAUAUGUCAUAGUAACAAAGAUUCGAUCAUUGGUAGAAAUAGAAACAACCUUGACAUAUGUAAAUGUCAAGGUAGAUUUAAACUUUUCUUGACACUGGAAUAGAUGACAUAUAUAAAUAGUAACAUACCUUGACAGAUAUACCCUACCUUGAUGGUGAAAAACUGUCAACGAAAGGCUUUUUUCUUGUAGUGAACCUUUUUCUUGUCUUACAUUUUGGUCUCUUAUAUUUCAAAUCCAUCAUUUUACCCAUUCAAACUUAUUAGAAAGCAAUACUUCAAUAUCAUUUGCAAACCCUUUAUAAAUUAUAAAAAGGAAUUUUUUUUUCCACAUUCUUGUUUGAACAUUGGUUUGAAUUUAGGUAAAACCAAUUUUGAAUUGAUAGCCUUGGGUAGUAUUUGAUUACUACUCAAAAAGUGCUCUUUGGUAGCUUGUAUUUAACCCUUUUAAACACUUUUGAGUAGUAGUUUUGGCCUUUUAACUCAAUUGGCAUGUUAAGGACCCUUGAAAGCAAUUUUAAUCACUUUGUGUAAGUUUUGGUGUUUUUGUUAGUAAUUUGAUCACCAAAGCAAUCCAAGAUUGAGGAGAGUUAUGAGGAAUCUUGGGCAAAUCUUGGAAGUCAUUUGCCAAGAGUAAAUCCGGAGUGCAAGGAGAAGAAGUAAAGAGAAUCUGCCAUGAAGCAUAUUCUUGAUGACAGUCGUGGCAGCCACUUUUGGAGCACUUUAUGAAGUCUAAUUAAUGCAUGCUAUAUACCAUUUCAAAGCUCAGGAAGUCAAAAAUCCAAUGCUUUAAACGGUACGUAAUUCGGAGUUGAAACGAAGAAGUUACAGCCAUUGCAAGUCAAUCACUCCAAGCUGAAGGAAGCAUUUUGCAAAAGGUUGCGAAAUCACCCUUUUGUUGCGAAGUGAUUUCGCAGCCUUUUUGUAUAGUGUGGUGUAUUUCCUCCUGAAGUUGCCCGAUAUAUGCCACAAGCUGGAAGCUGAGAACCUCAAGAUGGAAGCCAACUUCGCAGCCCUGCGAGAAUAACCUUUUGCUGCGAAGUGAUUUCGCAACCCUUUUGUGUGUCUGCGAAAUCUCGCAGACAUCAUUUUCUCUUGCGAAAUGGUCCGUAGUGCUUCCCGAUAUUUGCUACCGACAUUGGGAGAUAUUUUCCAUCAGAUUUUUGUUGUCUAAAUCCCAAAAUACUCCUUGUAAGCCACCAAUUACAAGAUUCCUUAGCUUUUAAGUUAGUAAAAAGAGAAAAUAUCUAUAUAAUAAUUAGUUUUGUAUUAUGUUCAUAUAUAUACUCUUCGAGAGCCUGUUCGAACGAGAGGAGACCCUUUGUAAAGUUUUGAAAAGCAAGUAAAGUUCAGGCCCUUUGUUUUGCCUUACCUUCUCACUUUGUAUUAUUUAUUUCUUACUAAGUUAUGCACUCUCUAAGGAAUUUUCCCCAGAGAAUGAGUAACUAAACCUCUAGUUCCUUGGAGCUAAGGUUGCCGGGGAAGGUUCCAAGUGCAAGAAUGCAAAGCUUUGUGGUUUCAGCCAUCAAUGAAGAGGAAGUGAAAUCCUUUAGUGAUUUCUAUGUUUUUAGUUAACUUAAAACACCUUAGAGUCACCUGGGCCAACACUUGGUAUAGCAAGUGAUCUCCAACCAAGGAGAUGCAUUAGUUUACCCCUUGCGAGCCUCUGGGAGGCGACUUUAAGGUAGGAUUUUUUGGAAUUGCCAACACUUGGUAAGCUUUUAGACUCCAAGGAGACAUCCAUUAGUUAUCUCUUGCGAGCUUGAGAAGGGAAGUCUAAGGUUAAAGAUCACCUUGAAUGGUUAAGGCUUAGUUAGAGGCUUGAACCAUUGCAAGUUGCAUCAAUGAGAGAAUUAAAGUUGAAAUCUAAUUAAAGGAUGUAUCUGUACAACACCGGUUAGAGAAUUGACAAUAUGUUGAAUCUCUAACGCGAGGAAAUGAACCAUUUGACCGGAGCUAUGUCUUUUGCAUGAGGAACCACCCCAGUGAACUUGACUCUCCAAGGAAUGUUUUUCUUCCUAAGUUAUUCCCAUUACUUGUUUUGUUAGUUAGUUUGAAUCUAAAUCUUUACCAAUCAAGGUUUGAGUUUUAUUUCUUAAGCUAACCUUGAAAUGAAACACUACCAAUUCACUUUGAAUUGAUAUCAUUGAUAACUUGCUAAUCCUUCCCAGUGAACGAUCCUAGAGCCACUAUACUAUAGUAGAUUUUUCUUUGCUACCCUAGUAUAUGGUGUAAUAGGUUAUAAAUUUUGUUGAUUACUCCCUCAUCCAAGGAGCACCAGCUGGACAUGAAUCAGUUGAGACACCAAUUAGGCAUGAAUCAGUAUUUCCUAAACAUCUUUAUAUUAUUAUUUAUUAUCUAACCCUUCAUGUCUUGUGGAAGCACGUUACAUGUUAUCUAUGCUAUCUAGGUACGCCCCCUAUCACCUACCUUCUAAAUUUUGUGAAUAUGCUUGUCACUAUGAACCGUGCCUAUGUUUGAUAGUGCAUGGGUGUCUUGAUAUAUUGUUUCAUUGUUCAAUCAUUUCCAAUAAAGUGCAUGUUGGAUGAUAUGCUAUUUGAACUAACUUUAAUGUCUUGUGAUAGCACUUAAGAAGCAGUCCAGACACACACCCUAAAUUGUCUUUAUGAUUUAUGAUUGAUUAUUUUGUUUAGCAUGCCAUUUUUUUUUUUAAAUCACCUUAGUUUACCUAGGUACCCUCAAUCAACCAAUUAAUUGUCCCAAUUCCCUCAACUUAGCUAGUAGAGACCUCUUUAGGGCUUAGAGGGGUGCUACCUGUUAGAGGUACCUUCCCAAUAGGUAACUUGAUCCCUGAACCUAGACUUAGGUUUUUCAAAGACACGUUUUUCCAAAAACUAUGGAGUCACUUAUUUAGGGUUUUCUUUCUUGUUUUAUUUUCCAUUUUAAAAUAAAAUAAAAUAAGUGGUAACUCCAACUUUUCCAAAAUUAUUUUUUUUCACCAAUAAAAGCAAGUCUCAUCGAUUGAGUGGGAGCACAUAUGAAAAAUACGAGUCCACACUACGGCUUUUGUAGUACUCUAGGUAUCGUCCUCAUGGACUAGCUUAUGGAAAUUGUCAAUACUACAAUAAAUGAAUUGCUUUCGUUUGAAUCCUAAAGUGAAAAAUACUAUGAGAAUAAUGUGAAACUAAGUAAAAGAAAAUAAAUUAAUAACAAAAUGGAUAUUUAUUUUAAAUUCAAUUGAUUCAAGUUUGGGGCUUUCUACAAUCCAACAUAGGGUAUAUAAAUUAGAGAAAAUAAGGGUCUUUUAAGUAAUAUGAUCUUAGGGUUUUGGGAUCCUUGGCUGCUCGUGAUCAAGUUGAGUUCUAUAACACAAAAUUGCAUCUGAAACCUAAUUUUUCUUUUUUAAAUCAGAUUCCUAAAACCAUCAAAUGAAUUAGAUUGAUUACUAGUUUAAGAUUUGGCUUUUUAACCCUUCCUACUCUUUAUAGCUUUGUUUUGGGGCAAAUAACGAUAGAAAAAACGAGGAUAACUAAGGAUCAAGAAUUACCAAGAAUCACUAGUAUCGAGUAAUAACCUACCGUAUCAUUCCCUAAACUAACUCACAAGGAUAGGAUAAAAAAUGAUAAAUUGUCACCCAACCAAUAAUUAAUCUCAUUGUUAUAAUAAUUUACCCAUUGUCCCUAUAGGUUUCCUAACCCUUAGGUUUUCAUGCUUUAAGCCCCAAGUUGGCUCUUAACCUCUCAUGGGGGUGAUGUCACAUUCAAUCAAUAAUAGGGCAAAAAUCCAUAAUUUGAAUGAAAAGAACCUAAAACAAUAUAUUUAAUAAAGAAGAAAAAGAAAACAAACCAAAGUUCUCGUCUUCUUCCACCUUCAAUGUCAAACUCUCUAGGAAAAAAAAUCCAAGAUCCCUAAAACAUAGAACUAAGAGAGUUUAGAUAAUAUCAUCAAUUACCUAUCCUAUGGCACACUCUCAUUAGCCACUUAUUACAAAAAUAAUUACCUAAAAAUGAUUAAAAAAAUAAUAAAAUGGUGAUUUCUAGUUGUGUGGGGUCCAUUUAAGUUUGAUGGAGUGCCUUAGAUGCAAUUCCCAAGGUAGAGGAGGCGAAACAUCAAAGUGGUAGUGGGUGAAUUUGAAAUUGGUGUCAUUUCAAUGUGGAUUUCGAAUUCAUAAGUUGAAUUUUGAAAUCAUUUUGAAAUGACCCUUUAGCUUUGUGCAGUUGUUUUCAAAUGGCCAUAACUUCUUCAUUUCAGCUCCCAUUUGCACAUUGUUUGAAGUAUUAGACUCUUGACCUCCCAAGCUUCGAAACAAUAUACCAUAUGUAUAAAAUGGUCUCUAGGAAAUGCUCCAAUUUUGUCCUCAAAGUCAGGGUAUAUAUUACCAUUAGAUUUUUGAGUUCUAAAUUUCCAUGCAGUUGAAUCUUGCUUCAUGCCUCAUUUUCUAUGUUUUCUUAGCUUCUUUCUUACUCCAUUAUGGUCAUUUCUCAUCUUCCAAACUCAUGAUAUCCUCAUCUUGCCUUUUCUCAUGGUCCAUGAGUCUUGACUCACUUAUUUCUUCAUUUAACCCUUUCUUGAUCUUUCAAAAUCUAAAGUGAUUCAACUUGCACCCUUUUCUUCCCUCGAACCUGAGAUAAGUCUCCAAAGUACAAAUUAAACUCACGGCUAGGGCUUUAGCAUCAAUUUAGGUAAAGUUGGGUGAUUUGAAUGUCCUUUGGUGCACAAAUCAUAUCAAAUAUGUGCCAUUAGAGCACAUAUUUUGGCUCCAAUCAUCUCCCUUAACUAAACUUUGCUAGUCCAUAGCAAAUGAAAAGAGUAAAGAAAAAAGUGAAAAAUAUGUAAUGAGAUUCAUGAAACCAUAUUGACUCAACAUAACUGAUUACUACUCAAAAAGUGCAUUUUUAUAAGCUUAAACUUAAUUGUAUUAAGCACUUUUGAGUAGUAGUUAGACAUUUUAUCCCAAUUGGCAUGUGAAGGACCUAGCAAAUGUUACUAACCAAUUUUUGGUAAGUUUUAAUGUUUUUAGUAGCUUUUUGAUCACUGAAACAACCCAAUAUUGAGAGAGAGUUUUGUGCAAGCUAUGGCAAGGCAAGUUUAUGGUCAAUCACAUGAAGAAUCUGAGCCUUAGAGCACUUCAAAACCCCUUGCCAAACUUGGAAAGGGGUUGGCAAAGCUAUUAGUAGUAAGAUGGACGGAAACAGAGCAUUUUGCAAGGCAAAAUCAUCAAAUUCGCAAGGUGUGCCAAAAUUCGCAAUGUGUGCCAAAUUUUGGCAGGGUGUGCCAAACUUUCGCAAAGUAUGCCAAAAUUUCGCAAGGUGUGCGAAAAUCACUUUAUGCGCACCGACCUUCAGGAAAAAUCUCCAGAAUUGUAAUUUUUUCUUUUUUACUCCUUUUGUAAUAGAUAAAAGACAUUAGGGUUUGUUUAGGAACUAUAAAUAGGGGUUGGAAAACCUCUCAGAGAUGAUGUUGUGUUAGAUAUUAUGUUUUAGAUAUUUCGUAAAGUCUGAGUUUUUCUCUGCCUUUCCUUCUCAUUUUCUCUUCACUUUCUCUCUAGCCAAACACCCUCUGAGGAUGAUUUCUCAGAGGAUGAAUGGCUAAGUUUCACAUUUCUUGGAGUGAUGGAAGCUAGGUAAAGGACCCAGAUGCAAAGGUGGGAGUUUUCCUUGCUAAAAAUGAAGGUAGUUGUGUAUCGUUAAUGGUUUGUAUGUCAAGUUUUAGCUUUAAUCCCUUAGAAUCACCUUGAAUGGCCAAUACUUGGUAAGCUUUUAGGAUUCUAUGGAUGCUUAUUGCUAGAUCCAUGGAUGUCCAUUAGUUAUCAAGUACGAGCCAUUGGAAGGUGGUUCAAGGUGAGGGUCUUUAGUGUUUGAAGUCAUUAAUGGGAAGCAACUACUAUUUUUCAAGAACCCUUUGGAUCAAAACUUAUUUGCUAAAUACAAAUCCGGUUUGGGAGAUGACCAUCCUUUAUGUCAUUGUCCCCAAUGCGAGGGGAAGAUCCGGAAUUUCCCACUUUGCAAUAGGAACCUGAUCCUAGUAACCAUAGCUCCAAGAGACUUUCUCUUUAUAAUAAUUUCAAUUGUUUAUGUUUGCUUAACUUAAAAUCAACCCUUCCAAUCAAUCUUAUUUUCAUUUAAAAACUAACUUCCAAAAAGAAAAUCACCAUUUCUUCUUUCAUUAAUGUUAAGUGUACAAAGAAAACCCAUCCCUGUGGACGAUCCUAGAGCCACUAUACUAUAGUAGCUUUGUAUUUGCUACUCUAGUAUAAGGUGUUGUAGGUUUUAUAAAUGUUUUGAUAGACACCCGACUGGGCAUGAAUCAAAUGGCGCCGUUGCCGGGAAUGGUGCCUAAGUACAUAAAUGUUACCUUUUAUGAGUACUUGUGAUCUUCAUCACAAGUUGGUGAUUUUUUUUUCACUAACUCGUUUUCUUUGUUUUUAUUUUAUCUUAUCUUUCAUUUACUUUUUAGCUAACUUGUAAUCUUUUCCUAGAAUUGUAGUCCUUUUUGUUUUCUUUGUUUUUGUUUCAGUACUCUCGAGUUGUGUAUGCCCUAUUGGAUAAGAGAUAUUGAGGAAAGACUUGUGAAAAUUGAAACUCCUCAAGAAAUCAAGUUGGAAGUCUGCUUGAACAUCAUGGAUAUUCCACCUGAAGAUCAGCAUAGCCAACAUGGGCAAGAGGAGAAUCUCAAUGCAUAUCGAUCCAUAAGGGACCGCAUGCAUCCACCUCGAAUGAGUGCACCUUCAUGCAUAGUGCCUCCCACUGAGCAACUAGUGAUCCGACCUCAUAUAGUGCCCCUUCUACCUACUUUCCAUGGGAUGGAAAGUGAGAACCCCUAUUCUCACAUCAAGGAGUUUGAAGACGUGUGCAAUACAUUCCAAGAAAGAGGAGCUGCAAUUGACUUGAUGAGACUCAAGCUAUUCUCUUUCACCUUAAAGGAUAAGACCAAGGUUUGGCUUAAUUCUCUAAGGCCGAGGAGUAUCAGAAUGUGGACUAAUUUACAAGCUGAGUUUCUCAAGAAGUUCUUCCCUACUCAUAGGACCAAUGGCUUAAAAAGGAAAAUUUCGAACUUCUCAGCUAAGAAGAAUGAGAAAUUCUAUGAGUGUUGGGAGAGGUACAUGGAAGCUAUCAACGCUUGUCCUCACCAUGGCUUUAAUACAUGGCUCUUAGUGAGUUAUUUCUAUGAUGGUAUGUCUUCCUCUAUGAAGCAACUCCUAGAGACCAUGUGUGGAGGAGACUUCAUGAGUAAGAAUCCAGAGGAAGCUAUGGACUUCUUGAGUUAUGUUUCUGAAGUUUCAAGAGGAUGGGAUGAACCGAAUACUAGAGAUAUGGGGAUAAUGAAGUCUCAGCCCAAUGCUAAGGGUGGAAUGUAUGUGUUGAGUGAAGACAUGGACAUGAAAGCAAAAUUUGCAACUAUGGCAAGGAGAUUGGAAGAGCUAGAACUAAAGAAAGUAUAAGAAGUAUAAGCCAUUUCUGAGGCAUGAGUGCAAGCUACGCCUUGUUCCAUAUGUCAAUCUUAUGAGCAUUUGGUGGAGGAGUGUCCAACCAUUCCAGUAGUGCGAGAAAUGUUUGGUGAUCAAGCAAAUGUGGUUGACCAAUUCAAGCCCAACAACUAUGCUCCUUAUAGAAGCACCUACAAUUUUAAUUGGAUAAACCAUCCAAAUUUCUCAUGGAAGCUAAGGCCACCUCAGUACACACCACCAGCUCAAGCACCUCAACAAGCUUCAAACCUUGAACAAGCCAUUGUGAAUCUUAGCAAGGUUGUGGGAGACUUUGUGGGGGAGCAAAAUUCAAUCAACUCUCAAUUGAAUCAGAAAAUUGAUAGAGUGAAGAGUACAUUGAAUAAAAUGAUGGAUGAGAUGCAAAAUGAUCUAUCUCAGAAGAUAGAUAAUGUUCAAUACUCCAUCUCAAGGCUCACCAACCUCAAUACUGUGCAAGAGAAAGGAAAGUUUCCUUCUCAACCUCAUCAAAAUCCCAAGGUAAUUCAUGAAGUAGAAGCUCAAGAAGGAGAAUCUUCAAAGUUGAGGGAAGUCAAAGCAGUUAUCACUCUUAGGAGUGGUAAGGAGGUUGUUCAACCCCCACCCAAGCUGAAACAUGAUGAAGGAAGUGAAUCAAAUAAGGACAUGGGUGAGAAAAAGUCAAAGAAAGGUGACCAUGAUUCAAGUGUGGAUGAAGAACCAAGGAUAGUCAUCAAGGAAGAUAUGAUGAAGAAGCACAUGUCUCCACCUUUCCCUCUAGCUUUACAUGGUAAGAAGGGAACCAAGAAUACAUCAGAAAUUUUUGAAGUGUUGAGGCAAGUGAAGGUCAACAUUCCUUUACUUGACAUGAUCAAGCAAGUUCCAACUUAUGCCAAAUUCUUGAAGGACUUGUGCACUGUAAAGAGAGGGUUAAAUGUGACCAAGAAAGCCUUCUUGACUGAACAAGUGAGUGCUAUCAUCCAAUGCAAGUCUCCAGUGAAGUAUAAAGAUCCAGGAUGCCCCACCAUUUCAGUAAAUAUUGGAGGGACAUGUGUGGAGAAAGCUCUUCUAGACUUGAGAGCAAGUGUGAAUUUGCUACCCUAUUCGGUUUACAAGCAGUUGGGACUUGGGGGGUUGAAGCCCACAUCCAUUACUCUCUCCCUAGUUGAUAGAUCAGUGAAGAUCCCAAGGGGGGUAAUUGAGGAUGUCUUGGUAUAGGUUGACAAAUUCUACUAUCCAGUAGAUUUUGUUGUUCUUGAUACUAAUCUAGUUGUCAUAGGGACAAACUAUGUGUCAAUCAUACUUGGAAGACCAUUCCUCGCUACUUCUAAUGCAAUCAUCAAUUGUAGGAAUGAAGUUAUGCAACUCAUGUUUGGCAACAUGACCUUGGAGCUAAACAUCUUCCAUUUGUGCAAGAAGCAUCUCCAUCUAGAAUAAGAGAAAGGGCCAGAGAAAGUGUGCAUGAUUGACACUUUGGUGGAGGAGCACUGUGAACAGAGCAUGGAGGAAGAUUUGAUUGAGAGUCUUGGGGAUCCUGAUGAAGGGUUACCUGAACCCUCAGAUUUGCUAACUACCAUGUCUCAUUGGAGAAAGAUGGAAAAGAUUCUACCUUUGUUCAAUGAGGAGGAGUCGCACAGAGUUGGUAAGGAGGAGCCCCCAAAACUUACUCUUAAGCUUCUACCUACUGGGUUGAAAUACGCAUACUUGGAGGAAGACAAGCAGUGCCCUAUGGUGAUUUCUUCAGCUCUCACCAUUCAUCAAGAGGAUUGUCUAAUCGAACUCCUUAGAAGAUGUAAGAAGGCCAUUGGGUGGAAAAUUUUAGACUUGAAAUGAAUCAGCCCUUUGGUGUGCACCCAUCAUAUCUAUAUGGAGGAGGAAGCAAAGUCAGUUCGCCAACCGCAGAGAAGGUUGAACCCUCACAUGCAAGAGGUGGUACGAGCUAAAGUUUUGAAGCUACUUCAAGCCGGUAUUAUAUAUCCCAUAUCAGAUAGCCUAUGGGUGAGUCCAACCCAGGUUGUCCCAAAGAAGUCUGGGAUCACGGUGGUGCAGAAUGAUAAGGGAGAAGAUGUCUCCAAAUGCCUUACUACUGGUUGAAGGGUGUGUAUCGAUUACAGGAAGUUGAAUGCGGUGACAAGAAAUGACCAUUUCCCGUUGCCUUUUAUUGACCAAGUGCUUGAAAGGGUUUUUGGGCAUCCUUUCUAUUGUUUUUUGGAUGGCUACUCUGGCUACUUUCAAAUAGAGAUUGAUUUGGAAUAUCAAGAGAAGACCACUUUCACAUGCCCCUUCGGUACAUUUGCAUAUAGGAGAAUGCAUUUCGGUUUAUGCAAUGCACCUGCAACUUUCCAAAGAUGCAUGCUAAGCAUCUUUAGUGAUAUGGUGGAGCGAAUUUUGGAAGUCUUUAUGGACGAUAUCAUCGUUUAUGGAAGUGCAUUUGAGGAUUGCUUAGUAAACUUAGAAGUUGUUCUAAACCGGUGCAUUGAAAAAGACUUGGUGCUUAACUAGGAGAAGUGUCAUUUCAUGGUACAACAAGGGAUUGUUCUUGGGCAUAUCAUCUCUAAGGAGGGUAUUGAGGUUGAUAAAGAAAAAGUUGAACUCAUUGUGAAGUUGCCAUCCCCCACCAAUGUCAAGGGAGUAAGGCAAUUCCUUGGACAUAUCGGUUUCUAUAGGAGGUUUAUCAAGGACUUUUCAAAGCUUACAAGGCCUCUUUGUGAAUUGUUGGUCAAGGAUGCUAAAUUCAUAUGGGAUGAAAGAUGCCAAAGAAGUUUUGAGCAAUUAAAGUCAUUUUUGACAACAAUACCCAUUGUGCGAGCUCUUAACUGGCAGUUACCCUUUGAGGUAAUGUGCGAUGCUAGUGAUUUUUCUAUUGAAGUUAUGAUGGGCCAAAGAGAAGAUGGAAAACCCUAUGUGAUCUAUUAUGCCAGUAAGACACUCAAUGAGGCUCAAAGAAACUACACAACCACUGAGAAGGAAUUGUUAGCAGUAGUUUUUGCCUUGGACAAAUUUCGUGCUUACUUGGAGGGGUAUUUCAUAGUGGUAUUCACCGAUCACUCUGCUUUGAAGUAUUUGUUGACUAAGCAAGACUGAUUAGGUGGAUCCUCUUGCUUCAAGAGUUCAAUCUUCAAAUCAAAGACAAGAAGGGAGUAGAAAAUGUGGUAGCUGACCACCUUUCAAGGCUUGCAAUCGCACAUAAUUCCCAUGGUUUGCCCAUUAAUGAUGACUUCCCAGAGGAAUCUCUCAUGUUAGUGGUAGUAACUUUGUGGUAUGCUCACAUUGCGAACUACCUAGUUACAGGAGAAGUUCCAAGUGAGUGGAAAGCACAAGAUAGAAAACAUUUCUUUGUAAAGAUCAAUGCCUACUAUUGGGAAGAACCAUUUCUAUUCAAGUAUUGUGCGGAUCAAAUAAUAAGGAAGUGUGUUCCUGAACAAGAGCAACAUGGGAUUCUCUCUCAUUGCCAUGAGAAUGCUUGUGGAGGUCACUUUGCUUCUCAAAAGACAGCUAUGAGGGUCUUGCAAUCGGGUUUCUAUUGGCCCUCACUUUUCAAGGAUGCCCAUGCCAUGUGCAAGGUUUGUGAUCGAUGUUAGAGGCUUGGGAAGUUGACCUGAAGGUAUAUGAUGUCUUUGAACCCCAUUCUGAUAGUUGAUCUUUUUGAUGUUUGAGGCAUUGACUUCAUGGGACCUUUUCCUAUGUCAUUUGGCUACUCCUACAUCUUGGUGGGAGUCGAUUAUGUUUCUAAGUGGGUUGAAGCAAUUCCAUGCAAACACAAUGACCAUAGGGUGGUUAUCAAGUUCUUGAAGGAGAACAUUUUCUCAAGAUUUGGAAUGCCUAAAGCCAUAAUCAGUGAUGGGGGUACUCAUUUUUGUAACAAUCCUUUUGAAACUCUUCUAGCCAAGUACGGGGUGAAGCAUAAGGUAGCUACGCCUUACCACCCUUAAACUAGCGGGCAAGUUAAGUUGGCAAACCGGGAGAUCAAGAACAUAUUGAUGAAGGUGGUGAAUGUGAACAGAAAAGAUUGGUCUAUCAAACUCCUUGAUUCACUAUGGGCUUAUAGAACUGCUUACAAGACCAUUCUUGGAAUGUCCCCUUAUCGCUUAGUCUAUGGUAAAGCGUGCCAUCUCCCUGUGGAAUUGGAAUACAAGGCUUGGUGGGCAAUCAAGAAACUCAACAUGGAUUUGAGCAAAGUCGGGUUGAAGAGAUUCUUAGACCUCAAUGAGUUGGAGGAACUGCGAAAUGAUGCUUACCUUAAUUCGAAAAUUGCAAAAGAGAGGUUGAAGAGAUGGCAUGAUCAGUUGGUGACCCGAAAUGACUUUUCAAAGGGACAAAGAGUCUUGCUCUAUGACUCUAAGCUCCAUAUCUUUCCGGGCAAGUUGAAAUCAAGGUGGUUAGGUCAUUUCACAAUCCACCAAGUGUAUUCAAAUGGAGUAGUGGAGCUACUCAACGCCAAUAGUAAUCGAACUUUCAAAGUGAAUGGCCAUCGUCUCAAGCCUUUGUGGAGCCUUUUUCUCGAGACAAGGAGGAAUUCACCCUCCUUGAUCCCCCUCAGGCUUAAAAAAUAAUAAUAAUAAUCAGAUCCUGGAUGGACUUAGUCUUUCUGAAAACUAUUAAGUUCAUCCAUUUUUGCUUUUUGUUUUUAAUUUCAUGUUUUUCUUGCAUUUGUAUUUGUUUUGAUUUCGAUUUCUUACUUGAAUUCCAUUUUAGUUUGAUUUAAUUUAGGUUUUUGAUGAUCACUUGUAGAGGAAAAGCUGAGGAAAAAUUGAAGCAAAGCAUUUCGCAUACCUCUCUGCGAAUUUUUCGCAUGGUGUGUGAAAAGUGCUCUUUGCAUUAAGUGAGCUACUGCCAUUUAGCAGAGCAUGCAAAAAUUUCGCACCCUCUACGAAAUUCUUGUGACUCUCGGUCUUCAAAUGCGAAUUUCCACAUGGUUUGCUAACUCAAAGUUCACCCUACAAAUCAACUUUGCGAAAAUUCCAUUUUGCGAAAAUCCCACUUUGCGAAAACUCCACUUUGCGAAAAUUACACUUUGCGAAAAUUCCAUUUUGCGAAGACCCCACUUUGCGAAAAUUCCACUUUGCGAACAAUCUCCACCCCUCAUUUUUCUAAAAAAAAAAAAAAAAUAGUAAAAUUUUAUUUAUUUAUUUUUUUUGCAGCAUACAUCCCAACUUCAUUUCUCACUUCUCUAGUCAUUUUUGCGCCCUUUUGCGAAACUUUUGCAUGACUAUGAAAAAUUUGCCUCGAAAGGUAUCACUUCCUCCCUUUAUUUUCACUUGCAAUUGAAACAUUGAGGACAAUGUUCGUCUUGGUUAGGGGGAGAGUUGAGGAAGUAAGUAUUGUAAAUAUUGCUAGGAUAUUUUGUUAACUUAGUUACCUUUUGUUUAUUUUUUUUUUAAAAGUUUUUACUCUACUCUCCAUGGUUGUUAAGGAAAAAUUCUCAAAAUGAAAUGAGAGAAGUUGAGUUCUUGCCUUUUUGCUUAAGUCUUAGAGUUUGUAUUAUGUAUAUUGAGGUUGAUGAAUUAUUGAAGCUCCUAUUGAAUUCAACCUUGUUUCUUCCACUUUAAUCUUACCACACACUGUGCACAUUAGGUUCCAAUUAUAAGAUGAAAAACUAUCUCACCCCUUGAACUUAGGAAAAUUUUGACUUGGUACCUUUGACCUCAUUUUAAUAGUGUUGGGACACCUUAUAGAAGGCCAAUGAGCCUUCAGAAAAAAAAAAAAAAACAAGUGCUACACAUGCCUUGAAACCCAAGCAAGGUCAUAAGGAUAUAUGGCGAAAGUCUUUGAAGCCUGGUGCCCUAAACCUUAAUUGGUUGGGAGUCGCAAACCUUAAUGCUCGUUAUAGGGGUGAAUGGGUGAAGUUGAGCAAAUAAAAGAAUUGUGAAAUAAAAGAGGUGUGUUCUUAGCCUAUUGGGUGUUGGUCAGUUUGCUAGGUUUGAGAAAGAACUAGGUUGGGGGGAGAGCAUAGUUUAGCAUACUAUAAUUGGAAACUAAUCACCUUAACACUUAGAUUCUUGUCGAAGAUUAAGUGUUGGAUCUUUGAGAGUGGAAAUUCUUUUGAUGCUUAAAUUUGUAUAGUGCCUACUCUUUGUAUUUUGUGAUUAGGUAAGUGAUUUAAUGACUCUUGUUAAAGGUUGGGUUUUAUAUCUUUGAUUUUCCAUGAGAGAUUUUUGAUCCAUAUCAUGCUGCUUUAAAAUUUUAUUUUUGAAGUGGUGAGCAUGAUUUUGUAAAUUGUUGUAUAGUCUAUUUUUCUUUUUGUCUCCUUCAUUGCUAAGGGACUAGCAAUGUGUCGGUUGGGGGGAGUGAUUACUACUCAAAAAGUGCAUUUUUAUAAUCUUAAACUUAAUUGUAUUAAGCACUUUUGAGUAGUAGUUAGACAUUUUAUCCCAAUUGGCAUGUUAAGGACCUAGCAAAUGUUAUUAACUAAUUUUUGGUAAGUUUUAGUGUUUUUGGUAGCUUUUUGAUCACUGAAAUAGGCCAAGAUUGAGGGAGAGUUUUGUGCAAGCUAUGGCAAGGCAAGUUAAAGGUCAAUCACAUGAAGAAUUUGAGCCUUGGAGCACUUCAAAACCCCUUGCCAAACUUGGAAAGGGGUUGACAAAGCUAUCAGUAGUAAGAUGGAGGGAAACAAAGCAUUUCGCAAGGCAAAAUCAUCAAAUUCGCAAGGUGUGCCAAACUUUCGCAAGGUGUGCCAAAAUUUUGCAAGGCGUGCCAAAAUUUUGCAAGGCGUGCCAAAAUCACUUUGUGCACACCGACCUUCAGGAAAAAUCUCCAGAAUUGUAAUUUUUUCCUUUUUACUCAUUUUGUAAUAGAUAAAAGACAUUAGGGUUUGUUUAGGAACUAUAAAUAGGGGUUGGAAAACCUCUCAAAGAUGAUGUUAUGUUAGAUAUUAUGUUUUAGAUAUUUUGUAAAGUCUAAGUUUUUCUCUGUCUUUCCUUCUCAUUUUCUCUUCACUUUCUCUCUAGCCAAACAUCCUCUGAGGAUGAUUUCUCAGAGGAUGAGUGGCUAAGUUUCACGUUUCUUAGAGUGAUGGAAGCUAGGUAAAGGACCCAGAUGCAAAGGUGGGAGUUUUCCUUGCUAAAAAUGAAGGUAGUUGUGUAUCGUUAAUGGUUUGUAUGUCAAGUUUUAGCUUUAAUCCCUUAGAAUCACCUUGAAUGGCCAAUACUUGGUAAGCUUUUAGGAUUCUAUGGAUGCUUAUUGCUAGAUCCAUGGAUGUCCAUUAGUUAUCAAGUACGAGCCAUUGGAAGGUGGUUCAAGGUGAGGGUCUUUAGUGUUUGAAGCUAUUAAUGGGAAGCAACUAUGAUUUUUGAAGAACCCUUUGGAUCAAAACUUAUUUGCUAAAUACAAAUCCGGUUUGGGAGAUGACCAUCCUCUAUGUUAUUAUCCCCAAUGUGAGGAGAAGAUCCAGAAUUUCCCACUUUGCAACAGGAACCUGAUCCUAGUAACCAGAGCUCCAAGAGACUUUCUCUUUAUAAUAAUUUCAAUUGUUUAUGUUUCCUUAACUUAAAAUCAACCCUUCCAAUCAAUCUUAUUUUCAUUUAAAAACUAACUUCCAAAAAGGAAAUCACCAUUUCUCCUUUCAUUAAUGUUAAGUGUAUAAAGAAAACCCAUCCCUGUGGACGAUCCUAGAGCCACUAUACUAUAGUAGCUUUGUAUUUGCUACUCUAGUAUAAGGUGUUGUAGGUUUUAUAAAUGUUUUGAUAAACACCCGACUGAGCAUGAAUCAAUAACAUGUUACACACAAAAGAUACCCAAGUAGUCAAAUUUCCUAGAAUUGAGCAAAAUGAAACAAGAUAUGCAAUUUCUUAGUUUUUUCACCUUAUCUUCGUAUACAUAAAUGUGCAUCCAUGUUUAGCAUUCCCCUUAGUGUCUCUUGAUUUUUCCUUGUUUGGUUUUUUCCACCUAAACCUCAUGUGCUUAAUUUUGGUGUCCCCUCAGUAUUUUUCUUAAGACUUUUCUUAAACUCAAACUUCAUCAUUCUUUAAUUUAAAAAAUGAGGAAAAUUUAUUUUGAUUUUUCUUUCUUAGUUUAGGAAAUCUCCUUCUAUAUGGCUUAAUAGGGAUCCAUCGACAACUCCCAAGUUUUCACCCAAGGUACUAGGUAUUGAGAACCUUUGUAGGCCACUUACCUUUUAGGUGUCAUCCUAGCUCAAGGUAGAACAAGGUUGAAUUUCCCAAAUAUUUAUUUAUUUAUUUUAAUGUUUUUUUUCAAAAUUGAGUUUAGCUUAUGUUACAAGCAAGAUAUCGAUGACUUCUAACCAGUCGUUUUCGGGCACCGGGGCUUGAAAACACAGGGCCAUUACCCCCUCAAAUAAUUGCUCAAGCUUAAAUAAAUCAUUUUCAAAUUUUUUUUUCAUCAAUUUUUUUUUUCAUUUCCUCAUUUUAUUGCUUAAGAACAACUCCUUUUAAGCUAAAGAAAUUAUUUUAAUCAAGAUACCACAAGGGUAUAUGUGCUUUAUGUGUGCUUUGAGUCUUAAAUAGAAAAUAACCAUUAAAAAAAAUUUGAAGGCAUUCAAAGAAUUUAACCUAACUAUUUUUGCACUUCAAAGUAUAUAAAGAUAAGGUAAGUGAACUAAUACUCUUGCUCUAACUGUAUUUUUUCUCAAAUUCUAAAGAAAUAAUACUACUUAAAGCAUUCUCAUGCAAAAUAAACCAUGAGUUGCCAAGGCAAAUUAAGAAUGUCAUUAAUUAACCAAAUAUAACAGGCAAACUUUUGAAAAAAAUUAGGGCUAAUAGACCUUCCCCCCUCAACCUAAAUUACACAUUGUCCCCAAUGUGUAGGAUAUUGGGUCAAAUGAAAGGAAAAAUGGAGAUGUUACCUCAAUAUCAUCAAGUGAGAAGUUUGUCAUGAGGACUUCAUAUAAACUAGUCUUGCACAAAAAAAACAAGAUUAGUGGCAAAAGUAUGCAUAGAGAAAAAUAUAAAUGGUGAGAAUCUAAAAGAGAGUAUAAGAGUAUGAGUAUGUGAUUCGUCCCUAGCAGCGGCAGUGGCAACAGCACCAUUUGAUUCGGGGUUCGAUCCCCGGCAACGGCGCCAUUUGAUUCGUGCCCACUUGGUGUCUCAGCUGAUUCAUGUCCAGCUGGUGCUCCUUGAUUGAGAGAGUAAUCAACAAAAUUUAUAACCUAUUACACCAUAUACUAGGGUAGCAAAGACAAAGCUACUAUAACAUAGUGGCUCUAGGAUCGUUCACUGGGAUGGGUUUUCACUUUGCAAAUGAUAUUAAUUCAAAAUUGAAUUGGUGCCUUUUCAUUUCAAGGUUAGCUUUAAAAGAAAACAUAAAGAUGUUUGAAUGAAAAAGGUUUAGAUUUAAACUAACAAAAAAUAGUAACUGAUUUUACUUACAAAGAAAAGUGUUUCUUGGAGUUUCAAAUCACUAGGCUCAGAUUCCUCAUACAAAAAGGGAGUUCCGGUCACUUGUUUCUUUUCCUCGCAUUAGAGAAUUAACAUAUAGUUAAUUCUCUAACCGAUGUUGUACAGAUGCUUCCCAUUAAUGGGUUCAAACACUAAAUCCCUCUCACUGAUGCAUCUUGCAAUGGCUCGUGCCUCUCACCUAGCAUUUGCCAUUCAAGGUGAUCUUUAACCUUGGAUUACCCGUCAAAAGCUCGCAAGAGAUAACUAAUGGAUGUCUCCUUGGAGUCCAAAAGCUUACCAAGUGUUGGCUAUUCUAGAAAAUCCUACCUUCAAGUCACCUCCCAAAAGCUCGCAAGAGAUAAACUAGUGAAUCUCCAUGGACGGAGAUCACUUGCCUUACCAAGUGUUGGCUCAGGUGAAUUGAAGACGUUUUAAGUUAACUAAAAAGAUAAAAACCAUUAACGGGUCACACUUUCUCUUCAUUAAAAACUAAAACAACAAAACUUCCAAACUAUGCAUGUGGAAACUUACCCGGCUUUCCUCACUCCAAGAGACAAAAAGCCUAGCCUCUCAUCCUCUGAGGAAAAAUCCUCAGAGUUUGGUUGGCUAGAAAGAAAACUAACGAGAAAACAAGAAUAUAUAUGAAAAACAGAGCAAGUGCUCUGUUCGUUGAUCUAUAUAUGAUAUAUCUAUAUUACAGUGGAUUACAUGAUUACAUGAUUCUCUGAGAACAAGCUCCCGAGAGCUAUAUAUAAAGAAAAUUACAAAACAAAAUAUCUGAGGUUAUUCACCCCUGUGUUCUUACUUAACAACUAAGGAAUCCUAUAAUUGGUGGAUUACAAGGAGAGAAUUGGGAUUUAGACAUCAAAUAUCUGAAGCAAAAUAUCAAAAAAUGUCGGUCGCAAAUAUCUGGAAGCACUCGGGAGAAUUUCGCAGGCGCACAAAAUGGCUGGUUCGACUCAUGGUAGCUUAGCUUUAAAGGCGUAUCAACAAAAUUUAUACCUUGAAUACUAUUACUAAAGUAGCCAAGCUACUAUAGCAUAGUGGUUCUAGGAUCGUUCACUGGGAAGGGUUUUCGCAAACACAAGUGAUAUUCAAAUUAGGAAAAUAGGUGAUUUUCUUAUGGAUGUUAGCUUUAAAAGAAGAUGUAAAUGUUUUAGAAAGAUUGAAACUAAUCUAAGCUAACAUUAAAGACUAAAAUGAAAGGGUGUAAAAACAAGUUUCUCAAAUAUAGGAUAACUAUGCUCUGGCUCUUAUGCAAAUUGGAAAUCUCAGGAUAGGCUCCUCGCGUUGGGGUUGCAACUAUGGUGAUGCUUGCUUCCCGAACCGGUAUGGAUUUAGCAAAUCAAGUUUUAAUCCUUUAAAAUGACAAAACAGAUGGUAGUGAAUUUCAUCAAUGGUUAUUCACCUUAGACUUCCUUUGAAUGGCUCGUAAGAGAUAACUAGUGGUCUAAAGCCAAAAGCUUACCAAAUAUUGGCAACUCAAAGUCAUUCCAAGUGAUAAACUCACCUUUCAAUGGCCAUUGAAAUUGGUUCUAACGGAUUAAUGCAAAACUUGGAAUUGAAAACCUCACCUUCCAAUAGCUCGUAGGAGAUAACUAAUGGAUAGAAAUCCAAAAGCUUAUCAAGUAUUGGCCGUUGGAAGUUGUCAAAAGGAAAUAAAAACCAAACUUUGCAUUAAUGAACCAUUAAUGAAAAACGACUACCUUACCUUCCGGGUGCGAGAAAUUUCCAUGGGAUUGCAUCCAAGCCAUCACAUAACAUCCAUACUUUGAGAAACUAAAAGUUUUAGCCAAUCAUCCUAUGAGGAAAAGCCCUCAGAGGCUGUUUGGCUACUAAGAAAAUAGAAAUGGGGAAGAACAGGAGAAGAGAGAAAAACAGAGCAAGGCUCUGUAUAUUCUAUAUAUUGAUCGAUAUAUAAUUACAACGGAUGCAAGGGAAUAUAUAUAGAGAAGUUUUUCCAAUCCUUCCUAGCUAAGAAAUCUUAUGAUUCGUGGAUUACAAGGAGAAGAAUGGAAAUUUAUACAAAAAUAUCUAAAAGAAAAGAUCUCGUGUGGAGUCGGCAGAAACAGGGGAAAAUUCGCACGUUGGAGUUCCAAUUUCGCACGUUGAUUUGAGGUGUGCGAAAUUCUCGCACAGUGGACUGAGGAAUUCGCACCUUGAAUAGUGGUGUGCGAAAUUCCCGCUCAGCUCGGUCCAGUUUUCUUGCAAUGACCAUAACUUUUUCGUUUCAACUCCGAUUUGGACACCGUUUGAAGCGUUGGACUUCUGACUUCCCGAGCUUCGAAAUGGUAUAUAGUAUGUAUAAAAUGGACUCGAGAAAGUACUCCAAAAUAUGUCCCAAAGUGGAAAUAGAACCAAUGGCCAGAAUUCUCUCUUCUCUUCCUUUUCUUUCAUCAUUUUUGCAUCUCCUCCUACAAUGAUCAUCCAAAACUCAUCUUAAAAACAUAUUAAAACUAAAUUAAAGCUAAGAAUUCAAACUAAAACAUGCAUAAAUUUAAAGAAAGCAUAGAAUUUAAAUGAAGCUGAUAGCAUGUACCCCAAAAAGAAGAUGAACUAUUUAGCUCAUCCUGACUCACACACCCACUUCAUGCUGAAUUCCCCCUGGAUCCCAAACAAAAUUGGCAUCCUUCCCAUUUGGUCCAAGGGAAUUCGUUUCUCUUCUCUUCCCUAGAGAAGUGGAUGCUUUAAAGGGUUCAGGUAACCCCUUAUCAUCUUGAACCUUAUGAUUUUCAAUGGAAGGUUGGUCCAUAGAGUUGUCAUAGCAAUCCCCCACCAAAGUGUCAAUCUUCAACACUUUCCUUGAUCUUUUUGCAUUGGUUCCUUGAAGGUUAUGGUGGGGUUGAGGAGUAAGCUUCCUUUUCCCCCUUGCUAUGUCGAGAUUGGUGAGCUUCUCAAUGGAGUCUUGAACUUUUUCUAUCCUUAGUGAUAGAUCAUUAUAAACCCCCUCCAUUCUUACAUUUAUUGAACUCUCCAUAUUAUCAAUCUUUUCAUUAAGCUGAGAGUUGAUCUUUUGUUGCUCACCUACAAAGUCCUCCAUGACUUUGCUUAUCUUCAAAAUGGCUUGCUCCAAUGAAGAUGUACUCAUUGAUGGUUGAGGUUGAGGUUGGGUUGCAAGGUUGGGAUGGUUUAUAUACUCAAAUGAAGUUGGCAUGGCUUGUGGUUGUGCUUCAGUAUGCACAUUCCUCAAUUCAAACUCUUCUAUCCUUCUAGCCAUAGAUGCUAGCUUUGCCUUCAUGCUCAUGUCUUCAUUCAAAGCAUACUUACUAGCCCAUUGGCUUUGUUGAACUUGCCUUUUCCCUAAUUCAAUCCGAUCCCUCAUGGAUAAGUAUGCAAAUUUGUCCUUCUCAUGAUCAUAAUGAGAGCUUUGAUCUUCAUGUGGAAUUUCCAUUUAUAAAAAAAAUGAUAUUCAACUAAGGCUCUUUUCUUCAACUUGUACCAGGGUUCCCUCUUGGUCUCGAAUCCAACAAGGAAUGCACAAAUUGAAAUUAAAACAAAAAUAAAAGAAAAGAGAAUAAAAAAUUUAACUCAAUAAAAACUAAACUAAAAAAAAUUAUAAGAAAACUCACCAAACUUGUGAUGAAGAUCACAAGUUACCCUUAAUGGUUGCUUCACUGUGCUUGUGGCACCUUCCCCGGCAACGGCGCCAUUUGAUUCGACUCAUGGUAGCUUAGCUUUAAAGGCGUAUCAACAAAAUUUAUACCUUGAAUACUAUUACUAAAGUAGCCAAGCUACUAUAACAUAGUGGUUCUAGGAUCGUUCACUGGGAAGGGUUUUCGUAAACACAAGUGAUAUUCAAAUUAGGAAAAUAGGUGAUUUUCUUAUGGAUGUUAGCUUUAAAAGAAGAUGUAAAUUUUUUAGAAAGAUUUAAACUAAUCUAAGCUAACAUUAAAGACUAAAAUGAAAGGGUGUAAAAACAAGUUUCUCAAAGAUAGGAUAGUUAUGCUCUGGUUCUUAUGCAAAUUGGAAAUCUUAGGAUAGGCUCCUCGCGUUGGGGUUGCAACUAUGGUGAUGCUUGCUUCCCGAACCGGUAUGGAUUUAGCAAAUCAAGUUUUAAUCCUUUAAAAUGGCAAAACAGAUGGUAGUGAAUUUCAUCAAUGGUUAUUCACCUUAGACUUCCUUUGAAUGGCUCGUAAGAGAUAACUAAUCGUCUAAAGCCAAAAGCUUACCAAAUAUUGGCAACUCAAAGUCAUUCGAGGUGAUAAACUCACCUUUCAAUGGCCAUUGAAAUUGGUUCUAACAGAUUAAUGCAAAACUUGGAAUUGAAAACCUCACCUUCCAAUAGCUCGUAGGAGAUAACUAAUGGAUAGAAAUCCAAAAGCUUAUCAACUAUUGGCCGUUGGAAGUUGUCCAAAGGAAAUAAAAACCAAACUUUGCAUUAAUGAACCAUUAAUAAAAAAUGACUAUCUUACCUUCCAGGUGCGAGAAAUUUCCAUGGGAUUGCAUCCAAGUCAUCACAUAACAUCCAUACUUUGAGAAACUAAAAGUUUUAGCCAAUCAUCCUCUGAGGAAAAGCCCUCAGAGGCUGUUUGGCUACUAAGAAAAUAGAAAUGGGGAAGAACAGGAGAAGAGAGAAAAACAGAGCAAGGCUCUGUAUAUUCUAUAUAUUGAUCGAUAUAUAAUUACAACGGAUGCAAGGGAAUAUAUAUAGAGAAGUUUUUCCAAUCCUUCCUAGCUAAGAAAUCUUAUGAUUCGUGGAUUACAAGGAGAAGAAUGGAAAUUUAUACAAAAAUAUCUAAAAGAAAAGAUCUCGUGUGGAGUUGGCAGAAACAGGGGAAAAUUCGCACGUUGGAGUUCCAAUUUCGCACGUUGAUUUGAGGUGUGCGAAAUUCUCGCACAGUGGACUGAGGAAUUCGCACCUUGAACAGUGGUGUGCGAAAUUGUCCCUCAGCUUGAUGCAGUUGUCUUCCAAAGGCCAUAUCUUUCUCAAUUCAGCUCCAAAUCAUAUAUGGUUUGAACCGUUGGAUUUUUGACUUUCUGAGCUUUGAAAUGGUAUAUAGCAUGUAGAAAAUGGACUUCGGGAAGUGCUCCAAAAGUGCCAAAGAAGACUGCAGCUGCUGUCCUCUGUUUUCCUCUUUGCUUCUUUUAGCUUCUCUUUGCUUCUCUUUGCUUUUCUCCUUUUGUUGGCUUGCUUUGGUGUAGCUAAAACCUUGCUUUAACUUGUACAAGUAGUUCCUCCAUCAUUUGGCAUGCUUGAAUUGAUUCAUAAGCUGAUAUAAACAUGUAAACUUGCCACAAAAUGGUUAAAACCAAUUACUAAGGACCUUAAUGAAUUAAUUGGGUUAAAUGAAUAUGAUUACUACACAAAGGUGCUUAAAAUCAUUAUAAUUAGGUCUAAAAAAUAGCACUUUUUGGUAGUAAUCAAUGGCUGUGAAAUUUCGCAGCCAAAGGCUAAUUUCGCAGCCCUGCGAAAUUGGCCUUCAGCUUGGAGUGAUCUGCUUCCAAUGGCUCUAAUUUCUUCAUUUCAACUCCGAUUUGCAAACCGUUUAAAGCAUUGGAUUGUUGACUUCCUGAUCUUCGAAACGACAUAUAGCAUGUAUAAAUUGGACUUCAGGAAGUGCUCCAAAAGUGGCUGAAAUGACUAUCAUCAAGAAUGCUUCAUGGCAGAUUUCUCUUUGCUUCCCCUCCUUGCAUUCCGGAUUUGCUUAUGGCAAAGGACUUCAAAGCUUUGGUUAUUCAUGUUUUUGAGCUUUCCAUUGCUUUGCCAUGGAUUCCAAAGAACUCUCCUCAAUCUUGGAUUGCUUUGGUGAUCAAAAAGCUAUCAAAACACCAAAACUUAACACAAUUUGAUUAGAAUUGAUUGCAAGGGUCCUUAACAUGCCAAUUGAGUUAAAAGGUAAUAACUACUACUGAAAAGUGUUUAAAAGAGUUAAUUACAAGCUAUCAAAUAGCACUUUUUGAGUAGUAAUCAGUAUGCGCCAAAAAUACCAUAGUAUAUACAACCAAAUUGAAUAAGGUAUAUAUAGAAAUGAACAUCAAGCACCAAUGAUAGGAUGGACAACUCCAUCUAUCUCCUCUAACAUAGGGGUGGCUACCUGGUCAAUAUCCUUCGAUAUAGGUGUAGUAGCCUGAUUAGUGAUAUCCAUGAUAGGUGUAACAGCCUCGCCAGCAGCUUGUACCAUAGGGGGGUCAUCCCUAAUAAUGAUGUCCACACUAGUGUUAAUAGCAUAAAUGAAGAUCUCACCAUCGACCUGUCCUGCAGAAUUUGGAAUAUCAAUAGUCGAGUUAAAAAUCUUAGCUGCGGCAUCACCUGAUGUUUGUAAGAUAGGCAUGGUCUCAUGGGCUACUGUCGGUGCUCUAGUGUCAAAGCCAAAACCAAUCACCUCUGUGUUGCCAUCAACCUCUAAGUUGGUAUCAGUUAGUGUAACCAAAUCUCCCCUUUAUCUAGAUGGAAUAACCAAAGAAGUGAGCUAUUGUAUAGAAAAAGUGAGGUCAUCCAUCUGAGUCUCCAUCUUACUUAGGUAAGCGUCAAUGUGGAAGUCCAUGGACACAAAUAACUUCUGAAGUGUGUCUAGACGAGCCAUGAUUGAUAAAGUACUCGGGGUAGCAUCAACAAUCUAAGGCUAUGAAGGUUUAGGAAGAUCGGAGAUUGGUACUGUUGGUGUAGAAAUAGGAAUAGCAAGCUCUGGGGCACAUGAAAGAGAUGGUGGAAGAGGAAUAGGAAGCACUAGUAAGCUCAUGUCAAAAGUAAGAAUGAGUGGGAGCGGGCUCUUUGUAGUAGAUGGAAGUCGAACAAAAUCCAAAGCUCUCUUUCACCUAGUGCGAUGGGUAGUCAAUUGUGACCCUGAAUGAAUCAUUCGAGCACACUGAUCGAUAACAGAAGUGUGAGAAGCCAUGUGACGACCAAACUCAAGUAACUGUUGUCCACGGUGGAGCAAGUAGUAUGAGAGCAAUCAAGGCAAAGGAAUGAGAUAGCUUUGAGCUAAAAAUAACUGUUUAUCCUUAACCUUCUAAAAAAAAAGAAAUGAUGGUAUCCAACUGAGUUGAGGUGGACUCCACCCCUCGCCUGUGUGCAUAUGAUAUAACCCCCAUAAGACUAAAUCAGAGCGCUCUAUAGAGUGUCCACAACAAGUACCCUGAGGUGCUAGUAUAUGUGCAAUCCUCGAAAAAGCUAGUCGUGACUGAGGUGUAAAUCAGGCUUCAAGAGGAGUGGAUGAUGGUAAACCAAAGGCUGAAACAAUGCUCUCAGUGGAAAUAAUAUCAACUCGUCCUCUAAUAGAAAAAUGGAGCUCUCGGUACCCCCCUCUCUAAUCCUCGAGAGUAAAUAAUAACUCUCGUACACUAGCGACAUAAAAAUAUGGGGGAUGAUCCAUCAAUGCGAGAAAAUAAUAUCGGUCAAGGAGAUGCAUGGACAAUGCAGUGGGCUCAUAAGUACUAAAUGCCUUUAUGUCAUAAAAGAACUCUUGACCAAACUCCCGUUGAGAUAGGUCCACCCUAGGGGCAUCAUCACAAACUCUUAGAGAUGGAGGACGUGUUGGGCUCAGAGUAGGGGGAGCUGCCCAUGGAUGUGGAGGAGUGGUAGUAGGCCUGGUGGUCUUAGGAGUGGUUGAGCGAUCAAAAUGGGCCUUCAUCCUAGUCUUUACAUGCAUGGCUUCAGUCCUCUUAGUGGUUGGGUGGUCAAAACGAGACUUCGUCCUAACCUCUACAUGCAUGGCUUUAGUCCUCUUAGUGGUUGGGUGAUCACAACGAGCCUUCAUCUUGGCCUCUACAUGCUUGGCUUGACUAGUGACAUGCCUCUCGGUAAGCUCACUAAUCAGUACACCACUUUGACUUUGGACAAGAGGUCGGGCAUGCUUUUGCCUUGGGAAUGCUUAGUCUCAUUGUCACUUUGAAUAACAACUUUCCUUUUAUCUCGAGCCAUCUAAAAUAAAUGUCGAAAAAUAAACUAAACUUAAAAAGGGAAAUAAAUAAAUAAAAAUAAAAGCAAAAACUCAUAAGGGUUAAGAAAACAAUCCCAAAAAAAUUGAAUGCUCAUGAAAUUUAUGGAUUCAUGUGAAACGGUGGUAGACCAUUCCUAAAAUGCGGGAAAACAUUCAAGGUGUCCAACACUGAUGAAAAUAUGAGUCUUUGAAGCCUUAGAUAUAAUCCAAACAAUACUUAAGCUCAAAUAUCAUGUGACAAGGAAAUCAAAGUGAUUGGUUAGCUUAGGAGAAUGUGUAGAACAAAUAGAAAAAUCUACUAGAGAGUUUAAAAUGUUCUAGAGGAUAUAAAACAUAAAUUAGGCAACAAUUAUGCAAAACUCAUGGAAAAAUAAGAACCUUGCUCUCAAAGUAUUCUAAGAUGAUAAAAAAUCCCUAAGAAUCAUGUAGAAAAAAUUUCAAAAAUUUUCUCCAAGAAUAAACCAAAAAUUAUAACACCUUGAAUUUCCAAGCAAAACAAAAGAACUAUGUAACCAAAAUCAAUCUUGUUGUGUUGCACUCGGGUUUUUGGGGGUCAAGUUCCCCGUUGAGCUCGUGGGGGUCGAGGGGCAGUGCCCUAUAGAUUUUUUUUUUCAUUAUAUUUAUUGUUUUUUAUUUAUCCAUCCAACCAGAACAAUAGAAACCCCAAACAAUGUUAGUGAGAAUUGGGUAACACCGCAUUUUAUAUGAAGCAACAUCGCACAAUGAAACCAUAAAGAUCAAGGAAAAUCCAUGAAAAAUAAAUAAGAAAUGAGUAUGAGUGUAAUACGUACAUGGAAUGCAACAAACCCACAAUGAAAACCUAAAAUCGCCCUCAAUGGAAGCUAGGACGAUGAACAAGGGAAGUGGAAAUGACCAUUUGUAAAGGAGUUUGGGUGAUUUCAGAGUGAGCUCAAAAUAGAAAUUAAGUAUUUUGAAUUGGAUUUUUGGUUAAGAAAAGUCAUUUCGAAAUUUAACUAUUGAAUUUGAAAAUAACCUUAUUUUGAAUUCAUUAAUUAAUGGUAAAAAAAUGCACAUUUUAAAAUGAAACCAUUGGAUUCGAAAACUACCUUAUUUCGAAAUGGUUCACUAUAUACAAAAAAUUUUAAAAAACCUCAUUUCAAAAUGAAAAAAAAAAAAUUCAUUUCUAAAUUGGGCAAAUUUCGAAUUCACCUUCUGAAGUUAAAAAAUCUCAAUUCUAAAGUAAAAGAUUCAAUUUUGAAAAGCCCACCAUUUUGAAUUUGCUAAAUGUAGCCUCAAUACAUUGUUAAAACCCCAUUUCAAAAUUCCACUAAUGAUUUUGAAAAUAGCUCCAUUUCGAAAUGGCUCACUGUUGAUUCCAACUUCUAUUUCGAAAUAGCAAUUUUUUUAUAUUUCAAAUUUGCCUUUAUUUCGAAAUAACCCACGGUGAGUGUUGAAGUCCAUCUUAAAGCAUGAAAAUUGCUCAUUUCGAAAUUCAAAACUCAUUGUAUUUUGAACUCAUUGUCUGUGAGUUCAAAACACCUAUUUUGACAUUUACUAGUGAUUUCAAAAUUAACCUCAAUUCGAAUUCACUUUCUGUAGAUUUAAAAUUGCAAUUCUAAGACAAAAAUUUUGAUUUCAAAAGGAUCAUAAUAUUUAAAUCACCCAUUACUAGUCUCCAAAAGUGUCAUCUCUAUUUGAGAUUUGAAAUUCAAAAACAAAGGAAUUUUGAAUUCAGCCACUAUACCUUUAACUCUUUAUCAUAAAAAUUUAGGAUUUCCCUCCCAAGGGCUACUCAGUUUUGUAUUUCAUCAUUUGUUUUCAAAGUUCACCAAUGAUUCUCACAAGUAAAUUUUUGGGAGACCUAUUGAUUCGUGCCCAGUCGGUGUAUCAGCUGAUUCAUGUCCAGCUUCUGCUUCUUGAUUGAGGGAGUAAUCAACAAAAUUUAUAACCUAUUACACCAUGUACUAGGGUAGCAAAGACAAAGCUACUAUAGCAUAGUGGCUCUAGGAUCGUUCACUGGGAUGGGUUUUCACUUCACAAAUGAUAUUAAUUCAAAGCUAAAUUGGUGCCUUUUCAUUUCAAGGUUAGCUUUAAAAGAAAACAUAAUUUUUGGUAGAAAAGGUUGGUUUUAAGUUAACCAAAAAUAAUAACUAAUUUUACUUACAAAGAAAAGUGUUUCUUGGAGUUUAGACCACAGGGCUCAUAUUCCUUGUACAAAAAGGAGAGUUCCGGUCACUUGUUUAUUUUCCUCGCAUUGGGGAUUUAACAUAUAGUUAUUUCCCGAACCGGUGUGGUACAGAUGCUUCACUUUAAUGGGUUCAAACACUAAAUCCCUCUCACUGAUGCACCUUGCAAUGGCUCAUACCUCUCACCUAGCACUUGCCAUUCAAGGUGAUCUUUAACCUUGGACUUCUCGUCAAAAGCUCGCAAGAGAUAACUAAUGGAUAUCUCCGUGGAGUCCAAAAGCUUAUCAAGUGUUGUCUAUUCUAGAAAAUCCUACCUUCAAACCACCUCCCAAAGGCUCGCAAGAGAUAAACUAGUGCAUCUCAAUGGAUAGAGAUCACUUGCCUUAUCGAGUGUUGGCCCAGGUGAUUUAAUGGCGUUUUAAGUUAACUAAAAAGAUAAAAACCAUUAAUGGGUCACACUUUCUCUUCAUUAAAAACUAAAACAACAAAACUUCCAAUUUAUGCAUGAGGAAAUUUACCCGGCUUUCUUCACUCCAAGAGACAAAGAGCCUAGCCUCUCAUCCUCCGAGGAAAAAUCCUUAGAGUUUGAUUGGCUAGAAAGAAAAUAAUGAGAAAACAAAAGCAAAGCAAGUGCUCUGUAUUUUACUUCCUUCCCAAAACUGUAAAAAAGGAUUCUCCCCCUGAGAACAGGCUCCCAAGAGAUAUAUAUAAGGAAAAUUACAAAAUAUCUAUAUGAGGUUAUUCACCCUUUUUCCAAACUUAAUAACUAAGGAAUCCUAUAAUUGGUGGGUUACAAGGAGAUUUUGGGGAUUUAGACAACAAAUAUCUAAAGCAAAAUAUCUCAAAAUAUCCCAAAAUAUCGAUGGCAAAUAUCAGGAAGCUUCAGGAGAACACCGCGGCCCUGUGCAAAAUGGCUGCUCUCCCAUCCGGGUAGACGCUAUCAGAUGAUCCGGAUACGUCCGUCCGGAGAAGUUGAAACGCCCUCUUCUCCCAUCCGGCGUCAUGCGCCGGAUGCAAAAUAUCCGGAUGUAAUGGCGGCGACAGUAGAUUUCUGGAUGUGAUACAUCCGGGUGGAAAGAGGCGGCAGCCGGAUGCAAUGGCGGCAGCCGCUCCAUCUGGAUGAAACGAUAGCAUCUUAUCCGGAUAUGUUGUCCGGAUGCCCUCUGAUGGUGUAUCCUGACGCCCUAUCCGGGUAUACUCCUUGCAUGGAUUCCAAGUAACUCUCCUCAAUCUCAGAUUGCUUUGGUGAUCAACAAGCUAUCAAAACACAAAACUUAACACAUUUUUUAUUAGAAUUGAUUGCAAGGGUCCUUAACAUGUUAAUUCGGUUAAAAGGUAAUAACUACUACUCAAAAGUGUUUAAAAGAGUUAAUUCCAAGCUAUGAAAUAUCACUUUUUGAGUAGUAAUCACCUAUGAUCUUAAAUAUAGAUCAAUGUACCUAUAGGAGCUUUGUCACCUUGAACACAUGUGAGGCUUACCAUUUCACUCCCUUCAAGUUUGCAUUCACCUAUAUCACUCGGCUGUUUGCAAGCUAAGUUGCUACAACUUAUAAACUCAUUAGUAAGUUAAAAAUUAACUAAAAAAUGCUAACCACAUUGCUAAUGACUAAUUGAAAAUGCAAAACUAAAAAAAGAAAAAUUAAAUUAAAUAAAAAAAUAAAACAUAAAUUAAAUAAAUAAAAGUUUUACCUAAAUUUAAUUUUUACCUACUAGAUUUUCAGAAAAUACUUCAACCCUUUUAAACAUUCCCAUAAAGAAAAUGGAGAUUCUCCUCUUGUGUCUCAAAUCUUUCAAUGAAAUGCUUUAAGCGUUGACCAUUAACUUUGAAUUCACUACCAAUCCUCAGAUUUUGAAUGGUCACGGUGCCAUAAGGGAAGACUUCCUUUACCACAUAAGGGCCAUUCCACCUCGACCUAAGCUUUCUUGGAAAAAUGUGAAGCUUGGAGUCGUAUAACAACACAUUUUCACCUUGCUUGAACUCUCUUCGUAAAAUAAGUUUGUCAUGGUAGAAUAUGUGUUUUUCCCUUGUAUUAUGUAAGCAUUCAUAACUUUAAUUUUGAUAUGCCUCAAGUUCCUUCAUAUCAUAUUUCCUUUUAGCUCUAGUUUGAUCCAAAUGAAAGUUCAUCUUCUUUGUAGCCCAAUAUGCACGAUGUUUGAGCUCUAUAGGCAAAUGACAUGAUUUACCAUAAAUAGUCUGAUAUGGUGACAUGCCAAAGCCAGUCUUAUAGGUUGUCCUAUAUGCCUGAAGUGCAUCACUCAACUUGGUAGACCAAUCUUUUCUUGUAGUAUUGACUACUUUGGUGAGGAUUUUCUUAAUCUCUCAAUUUUCUAGCUCAACUUGCCAAUUCGUUUGAGGGUGAUAUGGGGUGGACACUUUAUGCCACACUCCAUAUUUCUGCAAAAGAGUGGAAAAGGGCUUGUUACAAAAGUGUGAACCUCAAUUACUAAUGAUUACUCUCAGAAUGUCAAACCUAGAGAAAAUAUUCUCCUUUAAAAAUUUGAGUACCAUUUUGUGAUCAUUGCUCUUGCAUGCCACUGCUUCUACCCAUUUAGAAACAUAAUCCACUCCCACCAAAAUAUAGAGAUUACCAAAAGGAGGGAAUGGUCCUAUAAAGUCAAGGCCCCAACAAUCAAAGACCUUAACAACACAAAUAUAAUUUUGUGGCAUUUGAUACCUUGUGCUGAUUUUCCCCAAUUGUUGACAUUGUGGACAAGUUCCGCAGUGAGUGUUGCAAUCCUUGAACAUAGUUGGCCAAUAUAAUCAACUCUGUAGAAUGUUUGCUAAAGUCUUCCUCGGAGCAAAAUGACCUCCACAAGCUCCCUUAUGGCACAUUUUCAAUAUGUUGUUCAUCCUCUAGAACACAUCUCCGGAUAAUUUGAUUUGGGCAAAACUUAUACAAAUAUGGAUCAUCCCAAGCAUAGUGUUUUUCUCAUAAAAGAAAAUACUUUUUCAUCUCCAUGUUCCAUUCUGAGGGAAGCUCUCUAGUUGCCAAGUAGUUGACUAUAUUUGCGAACCAAGUCAACUUCUCCACUGCACAAAGUGCAUCAUUAAUUCAUACUGCCUUGAAAUGUGACUCUACUUUAACUCGGGACAGAUGAUCAGUAACCACAUUCUUUACCCUUUGCUUAUCCUUGAUUUGAAUGUUAAAUUCUUGAAGAAGAAGGAUCCAUUUGAUAAGUCUUGUUUUGACAUCCUUUUUGUUGAGUAGAUAUUUCAAGGUCGAAUGAUUAGUAAAAAUUACUAUUGAAGUUCUCAAAUGGUAGUUCUUGAAUUUAUCAAGUGUGAACAGCACUACAAGGAACUCCUUUUCAGUAGUUGUGUAGUUCUUCUAAGCAUCAUUGAGGGUCUUACUAGCAUAGUACACCACAUAUGGUUUUCCAUCCUCUCUUUGACCUAGUACGACUCCCAUUGCAUAGUCACUGGCAUCACACAUGGGGUCUCACAAUUAGUGCGAUAGUGAGGAGUGACUUUAGCCUCUCAAAAGCUUCUGGGCAUGCUUUAGUCCAUAUGAAUUAUGCAUUUUUAAGUAAUAAAGCACAAAGAGGUUAAGAGAUUUUUGAGAAGUCAUGUAUGAACCUUCUAUAAAAAUCUGCAUGCCCCAAAAAUUGUCUCACCUCUUUAACGGUAGUAGGCGAAGGUAGCUUUGAGAUGAGCUCAAUUUUUUCUGGAUCUACUUGAAUGCCUUCUCUAGAGAUGAUACGGCCAAGUACUACCCUUGAGGUUGCCAUGAAGUGACACUUCUUCCAAUUUAGGACCAAGUCUUUCUCAAUGCACCUUUUCAAAACUUUUUUAAAUUUAAAAGACAAUCAUCAAAGGCCUUCCCAUAAACUAUCAGAUCAUCCAUGAAAUCUUCCAUGAUUCUCUCUACCAUGUCAUGGAAGAUAUUGACCAAACACUUUUGAAAUGUGGUCGGCGUAUUACAAAGACCAAAAGGCAUGCGCUUAUAAGCAUAGGUGCCAAAUGGGCAUGUGAAUGUGGUUUUCUCCUAAUCCUCUAAUGUAAUGACAAUUUCAAAGUAACCUGAAUAGCCAUCCAAGAAGCAAUAAUAGUCAUGACCAACUACCUUCUCCAAAACCUGAUCUAAGAAAGGUAAUGGGAAAUGAUAUUUCAUGGUGACUGCAUUUAACUUCCUAAAAUCAAUGCAUACUCACCAACCUGUAGUCAACCUUGUAGGAAUGAACUCUCCUUCAUCAUUCUUUACCACAGUUAUCCUGCUUUUCUUAGGUACUACUUGAGUAGGGCUCACCAAACUAUACCUGCAUCUAAAAGCUUCAAUACCUCAUUUCUGACUACAACUUGUAUAAGGGUAUUUAGCCUUUUUUUGUGGUUGCCUUAGUGGUUUUACAUUAUCUUCCAAAUAAAUAUGAUGCGUGCAAAUCAAGGGAUUUAUCCCUUUCAAAUCUAAAAUAAACCAACCAAUCACUCUUUUACUCUCUUUAAGCACUUUUAAAAAAUUGAUUUGUUGCUCUUCAAUUAAUGUAGUUGAAAUGACCAAAGGUUUUUCUUCAUUUUUCUCUAAAUAAACAUACUUAAAACCAUGUGGUGGGCUUUAACUCUAGUUUGUUGGUCUCAACAUUCCCCUUUUUUAUUUCUUCAUCAUUUUCAACACUAUUCAAAGACUAAAUGCUACAUUUUUCUUUCCACUUUGUAGCAACUUCAACGCGUUCUUUCUCAAUGAUUGUAGAGAAAAAUUUGUUUAUAUUUUCUUCCAUUAACUUUUAUAUGGGUUCUUGCACCAAGGCCUCUAUAAUGCAUGCUUCCUCAUCCUCCACAUCAUCAUGGUCCAUCGGUUGCUUGCAUAAAUUGAAGACAUUCAUUUCCACUACCAUGUUCCCAAAAAAUAACUGCAUCAAUCCAUUCUAACAGUUAAUGACAGCAUUGGUUGUAGCAAGGAAGGCUCUCCCAAGAAUAAUUGGAACAAAAUUCACACAUUUUUUCAACGGUUCUGUAUCUAACACCACAAAGUCCAUUGGGUAGUAAAACUUUUCAACUUGCAGCAAGACAUCUUCGACUACUCCUCUAGGUAGUUUAAUCAAACAAUCUGCUAAAGAGAGUGUAAUGGUAGUAGCCUUAAGCUUUCCCAAUCCCAAUUGCUUAUAGAUUGAAUAUGGAAGCAAAUUUAUACUAGCUUCCAAAUCUAACAAAGCCCUUUCCACGAAUGAGUCUCCAAUUUGGACUGAGAUGGUAGAGCAACCUAGAUCUUUGUACUUCACCAUUGCCUUAUUCUCAAUGAUGGCACUGACUUGCUUAGUGAGGAAUGUUUUCUUGCUUAAUUUAAUCAUUCUCUUCAUAGUGCAUAAGUCCUUAAGGAACAUUGCAUAAGCAAGCACUUUCUUGAUCAUAUCAAGGAGUGGAAUGUUGAUCUUCACUUGCUUCAAAACUUCCAAAAUCUCUAAAGUCUUAUCCCCCACUUUGUGUCUUUGCGUUGCUGAAGGGAAAGAAAAAUGAUUGAAAACACUCUUUUUAUCUUUGCUCACAAUGACUUUCUCAUAUUUUUCAUACUCUUUCUCAUUUCUAGCAUUUUUCUCCAUGGUUGGUUCAUUUCUAGCAAGAAUAUCUUCAUUUAUCGGUAACUUGGGCCUUUGAUAUUCUUUUCCAUUUUUUAUUGUGAUAACUGCAUUGCAAUCUUUCUUUUGCACUUCAGAAACUUCAUUUACUCAUCUCAUAUUUUUCUAUUGUUGAGUUGUGAACUUUCUUUUCUCUUGAGAUAAGCCUGUAGCAAGUUGGCUCAAAAUGGUUCAAAUAUUUGCUAGUUCUUAAGAUGCUUGAGCAUUUAUCCUAUUUUGAUCCUCAUUACGGUUGUCUUCCUUCUAUAGAAACUCUCUCAUCAUAUCUUCCAGUCUUGAGUUAAUUGAUGAGGUAUGAUGUUGUUGUUGAAAAUUUUGAGAUGGCAUACCUUGUGGUUGAAAACCUUUUUGCCCAUUAGUCUGAUUACCCUGAAAUCAAUUUCCUUGCUACUGAAAAUGGCCAUUGUUACCUCAUCUCCAUGAUAGAUUUGAAUAAUUCCUCCAACCUGGAUUGUAAGUGUUGGAAUAUGGAGAAUUGCUAGAAUAUUGCUUGUAUGUCCUUAAGGCAUUGGUUUGCUCUGAAAACAUGUCUUGCACUAUAAUUAGAGUGGGACAAGAUUGCACACCAUAUUCCAUAGACUUACAUAUCAAGAACGGUUGAGUUAUUCCCUAAUUGACUAUUUGUACCUCUUGACCUCUUUUGGCUUCCAAAUCAUCCAACCUUCUCAUAAUGGUUACAAACUUUACUUGGACAUCUAAACUCUCUGGUAAUGUAUUCACUCCACUAGCUCUUGCCCUGUUCAUUGUUCUAUCUCUAGGUGUUUCCUUGACGAUUGGUUCUUCCCAACUUCUAGAUACCUCGGCAACAUAAUCAAGGAAUUGAAAUGCUUCAUCAGGGUUUUUAUUCAUGAAAUCUCCUCCACACAUAGUCUCGAGAAGUUGUUUCAUUGGUAGUGACAUGCCUUCAUAGAAAUAUGAUACUAGUAUCUAGUUGUCAAAUCUGUGAUGGGGAUAUGCUGCAACCAUCUCCUUGAAUCUUUCCCAACAUGCAAAAAAUUUCUCAUCCUCCAUAGCCUUGAAAUUCGAGGUUUCCUUUUUCAAUGCACUAGUCAUAUGUAUUGGAAAGAUUUUUUGCAAAAACACUGAUUGUGGAUCACCCCAAUUUCUAAUACUAUAGGGUCUAAGACUAUUUAACCAAGUCUUAGCUUUAUCCUUCAAUGACAAGGGGAAUAGCUUCAUGCGGAAGAUCUCUAAAGGAGUGUUGGCUUCUCGAAAAAUUGAAACGAUGUCCUCAAAUUCCUUGAUGUGAGAGUAUGGGUUUUCAUUUUUCGUUCCCUUAAUAAUGGGUAACUGAGAUACCACUUAAGGUCGAAUGGUAACAUGAUCAUGAUUUGGAGGUAGAAUAAAACACGAUGGUGUGCUCAACCUGGGAGGAUUUAGAAACUCUCUCACAGUUUUUUGGUCCUACAUAGGUGGUCAUGGCCUGUUGUUACUACUGUUGGAUUCUUUAGUGUCCUCCAUAUUUGGUUAAGAUUCCUCAGUUGUUCUUUGAAGUCUACCUAAAAGAUCUCUUUCCCAACCAAGCAUAAAAUAGAAGAAAAAUAUAUAUAAAGAAAAAAAAGAACUAAAACAAAGUAUUGCCAAUCCCUGCCAACGACACCAAUUUCUUGACGAAAAUUCUCUAUUGUACCAAAAUACUUAGCUUUUUUUACGUAGCAACUCCAAUUAAGAAAAACUAGAGAAAGAGUCACUACAACUUUUGAAGUACUCCAGGCAUCGUCCUCAAGAAUUAGCUUAUGGAAAGAAUUAAUACUAGAAUAAAUGAAUUGCUUUCGUCUAAAUCCUAAAGUGAAAAAAAAAAUGAGAAUAAUGUGAAACUAAGUAAAAGAAAUUAAAUUAAUAACAAAAUGGAUAUUAAUAUUAAAUUCAAUUGAUUCAAGUUUGGGCCUUUCCACAAUCCAACCUAAGGUAUAGAAAUUAGAGAAAACAAAGGUCUAUUAAGUAAUAUGAUCUUAGGGUUUUGGGAUCCUUGGCCGCUCACGAUCAAGUUGAGUUUUAUAACUGAAAAUUGCAUCAGAAACCUAUUUUUUUCCUUUUUAAAACAGAUUCCUAAAACCAUCAAAUGAAUGAGAUUGAUUACUACUUUAAGAUUUGGCUUUUUAACCCUUCCUACUCCUUAUAGCUUUGUUUUGGGGCAAAUAAUGAUAGGGAAGACGAGGAUAACUAAUGAUAAAAAAUUACCAAAAAUCACUAGUAUUGGGUAAUAACCUACCAUAUCAUUCCCUAAACCAACUCACAAGGAUAGGAUAAAAAAAAUGAUAAAUUGUCACCCAACCAAUAAAUAAUCUCAUUGUUAUAAUAAUUUACUCAUUGUCCCUAUAGGUUUCCUAGCCCUUAGGUUUUCAUGCUUUAAGCUCCAAGUUGGCUCUUAACCUCUCAUGGGGGUGAUGUCACAUUCACAAUCCAUAAUAUGGUAAAAAUCCAUAAUUUGAAUAAUAAUAAUAAAAAAAAAAACAAACCAAAGUUCUCGUCUUCUUCCACCUUUGAUGUCAAACUCUCCGAAAAAAAAAAUCCAAGAUCCCUAAAACCUAGAACUAAGAGAGUUUAUAUAAUACCAUCAAUUACCAAACAUGUGGCACACACUCAUUGGCCACUUAUUAAAAAAUAAAUACCUAAAAAUGAUUAAAAAAAUAAUAAAAUGGUGAUUUCUAGUCGUGUGGGCUCCAUUUAGGAUGGAGUGCCCUAGAUGCAAUUCCCGAGGUAGAGGAGACAAAACAUCGAAGUGGCAAUGGGUGAAUUCGAAAUUGGUGUCAUUUCGAUGUGGAUUUCAAAUUCAUAAGUUGAAUUUUAAAAUCAUUUUGAAAUCAUUUCAGCUCCGAUUUGCACAUUAUUUAAUGCUUUGGACUUGUAACCUCCCAAGCUUCGAAACAAUAUAUUGUAUAUAUAAAAUAAACUCUGGGAAGUACUCUAAAUUUGUCCUCAAAUUUAGAGUAUAUAUUAUCAUCAGAUUUUUGAGUUCUAAAUUUCCAUGUAGCUAAAUCUUGCUUCAUGCCUCAUUUCCUAUGUUUUCUUGCCUUCUUUCUUACUCCAUAAUGGUCAUUUCUCAUCUUCCAAACUCAUGAUAUCCUUGUUUAGCCUUUCCUCAUGGUUUAUGAGUCCUGACUCACUUAUUUCCUCGUUUAACCCUUUCUUGAUCUUUCAAAAUUUAAAGUGAUUUAACUUACACCCUUUUCUUCCCUUGAACCUAAGAUAAGUCUCCAAAGUACAAAUUAAACUCAUGGCUAGGGCCUUAGCAUCAAUUUAGGUUAAGUUAGGUGAUUUGAAUGUCCUUUGGUGUAUAAAUCAUAUCGAAUAUGUGCCAUUGAGCACAUAUUUUGGCUCCAAUCAAGCUUUCCCGCCAAAUUCUGCAUGCCAAACAUUGAGUGAUAGAAUGGAGUAGGUUGUCCGAAGAUUCACUUGAGGCUCUAUAGUACAGUCAUGAAAGCACACAAAUUAGAUGAUAUGUAGUUGGUUGCUCUCUUCCCCAUGUCACUUAGUUGAGCAGCAUAGAGGUGGUUGGCAUUAAUUAAGCCUUCAAGACUUUGCACUUGGAAGGAUGUGGCCUAUGAGUUUUUGACAUAGUUUGCCUUUAGUGCCGAUAUUGAUUUUUUUUUUUUCACUAAACAAGACGUCAAGAGUGUUACUUAACCAUCCCUAUGGGAAAAGCAAAAGUUGUUGCCUUAAGUGUUAAUAUUGAUGUUUCUAGGUGAGACUUAGAGGCUACUAAGCAGAGGCCAAAUGAGUCUAUUUCUUCAUUUAUUAGGCAUUGGAGGGCUAAGGUGGUUGAUAUGAUAGAUUGACUUAAGGAGUAAGAUCAGAUUGACGCACUUCUUUGGAACCUUCAACCGGGGUUUGCUAGACAUCUUGUAGGUAUUCCAUUUCAAGACUUUUGAAGUUUGGUUCAAGUCGCUUGUAGUGUUCAGGAGGGUAUUGAUAAAGGGUUAUAGACAAACACUAUUCCUUCCUUAGACAAUAAAGGAAAGAAGCCUAUAGGAUCAUCAGGGAGUCUUGGAGAGGUUAACACUAUCAGUUAUCAUCAUUGAGGUUAGCUUAUCAGUCAUACCAAAGGUCUCCUACAAUUAGAGCCCACUUUCCUCAUCCAUUGUGCCAAUAUUAGUCCACCUAUAUUCAACAACCUUUCAUUGCUCAGACCAGUAUGCAACCACGACUACCAUAUCCUAGAGACACUGGUUCUCAUUCAUUACUCAUGUUCCCACUCAUAUUUUUUACACACAUGAUCUUUAUCGAAGAGGGGCAUAUUUGUAGACCCUCCAUUCUAUCUCCUUAAUACAUGCCCUAUUAAGUGUUCUUUCAAUACUCCACAAUGGUUCCCUAGUGGCUCUAUGUUGCUCAUAUAACCUACCUUUUUUAGCCACCUUGGAGACUUUGGUUGAGGAAUUUAUUUCACCCCUCAUUAUGACUCUUGGCAUAAUCGAGUUAGAUUUAGAUUUUUCUUUUUUCUUUUUAGGAUAGCUCCUUUAAGUACAUCUCUAGAAUAGAGUACUUAGGCAUCAUUUUUCGAUCACCUUGGCCCAUUUAGACACUUUUAGCCCAUUUAGGCACAUCCGACCCAUUUGGGAUCACCCUAACCCAUUUAGAUACAUCUGGAUUAUUCAGAUUACCUUGACCGAUUUAGACACAUUUGGCCCAUUUAGGUACAUCCAACUCAUUUAGGUCACCUUGGGCCAUUUAGACACACAUAGGCCCAUUUAGGCACAUCUGGCCGAUUUAAGAUCACCUUAGCCUAUUUAGACACAUCCAACCUAUUUAGGAUGACCUUGCCUCAUUUAGACACAUUUGACCCAUUUAGGAUUACCUGAACCCAUUUAAGCACAUUCGACCCAUUUAGGUCAUCCUAGCUCAUUUAGACCACUUAGGCCCGUUUAGGCACAUUAGGCACAUUGGAGCCAUUUAGGAUCACCCUGGCCCACUUAGGCAUGCCUUGACCCAUUUAGCUCACUUGGCCCAUUUAGGCACAUUUGGUCCAUUUAGGAUCACGUAGGCCAAUUUAGGCAUAUUCGACCCAUUUAGGUUGCCUUGGCCUAUUUAGAAACAGCCAAGCCUAUUUAGGUCACUUAGGCCCACUUAGGCACACCUUGCCCUAUUUAGGUCACUUAGGCCCAUUUAGGCUCAUUCGACCCAUUUUGGAUCACCCUGACCCAUUUAGGCAUAUUUGGCCCAUUUAGGAUCAUCGUGGCCCAUUUAAACACACCCUAGCCCAUUUAGGUCAUUUAGGCCCAUUUAAGAACACAUUAACCCAUUUAGGAUCACCCCAGCCCAUUUAGACAUACCUAGGCCCAUUAAGGCAUAUCUGACCCAUUUUAGAUCACCCUAACCCAUUUAGACACAUUCGGCCUAUUUAUGAUCACCAUGGCACAUUGGGCCCAUUUAGGGUCAGUUAGGCCCAUCUAAGCACACCCUAAGCCCAUUUAGGUCACCCAUUGUCUCACUUCUUAUUGCAUGGUUUGUGUGAUUGCAUUGUUGAACUUCCUUGCAUGGCCUGCAUGACACUUUGUUUUUUUUUUUGUUAUUAUUAAUUACUUAUUUAUUUUUAUUUAUUAUCUUGCCAUUUAUUUAUUUAUUAUUUAUCUAUUAUUAUUUCAUCAGUUUCUGAAUUAUUUUUAAUUACUAUUCAUUUGUUCAAUGUAAUUUUAAUUUUUUUUUUGUUUUUGUAGGGAAAUUUACCAAAGAGAGAGCCAACGGAGAAGGAAAAUAAGAAUCACCAAAAUGAAAAAGGAAGAUAAAGACAAAAGAGAGUAAAACUUACCAAAAGGAGAGGGGAUUGUGAGUUGCAUUAUGAAAGUAUGGAGAACGCAUUUUGGGAAGUUUAUCAAAGAGAGAGUGAAUGGAGGUGUAAAGCAAGAAUUACCAAAAUAAAAAAGGAAGACAAAACGAGAGAGAGUAAAACUUACCAAGAGAAGAGGGGAUUGAGGGUUGCAUUAUGAAAAUAUGGAGAACAUGUUUUGGUAAUUGAGAAAUUCAGCACAUGGAGGUUUUGGAGUAAGGAGAGGAAGGAUUUGGUCAAGGUGGAAUUUUAAGAAAAAAGGAUAUUCAAUGUGGUAGGAAGGAAUGUUUAGCAUAUUAAGGAAGAAUGUGGGGAUUGGUAGGGGGGAAGAAGAACAAUUGCAAUUUUGAGCAUAAUUUUUGUAAAAUUUAUUGGAUGAUUGGUUUGUAUAAUUUUAAUGUUAGUAGAUUUUAAAAUUUUACGGAAUGAUUGUUAGGUUAAAUUCCCAUGUUGAAUGUGUUUUAAAAAUUCGUUAAAAAAAUUAAAUAAAAAUUCUUUGAAUGUUUGUUAGGUUAAAUUCUCAUGUGAGCAUUAUUAUUAUUAUUAUUAUUUAAUGCUAUAUUUGGUUGAAUUUUCAUGUCAAUAGAUUUUUUUUUAUUAAAAAAAAAUUGUUGAAUGUUUGUUAGUUUAAACGUUUAUGUUAAUAUAUUUUUAAAAUUCAUAGGAUGUUCUUGGCAUAAUUCUUAGUUGCCCUUAUCUCUAAAACCUUUCUAAAAUAAGAAAGUCAUUCAAGAAAAUAAAAAAAAUAUAAGAAAAAGGCAAAGUUGCUGCCUUUUUUUUUUUGGGGGGGGGGGGGGGGCCUUAUUUAUUUAUUAAUUUAUUUUUGUCAAUCUCCUACAAAAUGAUAUCCCACUUACACCCUUACGCAACAAGAGCGCGUGGGACACCCACUUCGACCCAACAACUUUAUGAUGAAUCUGAACCCUGUGGACAAUAAUACCAUGUGCAUAUAUACGAGCCUGUAACACUCAUUUAUGGGUUUAAAUUCAUUCAAAUGAGUCAGUAGUAAAAGCUAUGAAACAGAUCGAACCCCACCUUUUUUUUUUUCUUUUUUUUCGUUUUUAAAUUUUCUGGGGUCCCUCAGUUACUUUACAGAAGGUGGCAGAGAAAGAGAGACGAAUAAUCACUUUCAAUGCUGUUGUCUUCUUGUUGUAAGGGUAAAAUAAGAGGCAAAGAAAUUAAUGAAUUCAUUAUCUUACCUUUCUAUUGAAAUGCCUUCCAAGAAAUGUUUUGAGAGCUUUGAGUUUAGUCUAUAAUAAUGGUAGUAUAUUUCAAUGAAUAUGCAUUCUAGAAAAAUAUAUACCUUUAGCAUAUACCAAGAUAUCCUAGGGUUUCAAGUCAAGUAACAACCAAUCAAAACAAAAUCACUCUUCUUGGAAAACAUGGAUGUUCGAGUAUCCAGCUCUUUUCUUUAAUUGUGCUAACAUCGGCUCUCUCUCCAGCAUGCAAGUGUGCGUCCCAGGCAGCUCUUUUGUGCUUUAAAUGAAUUGAAUUCUUGAUCUUAUUCUGCCAUUGUUUUGGCUCAAACCUAAGAAGUAUAUUUACCCUAACUUCUUUUCAUGUCUUCAACUUACUCAAAGGCUCACAAGUCCCAUUGGAAGUAAGCAGUUAAGGAUUUUUGAACUAAAAUUAUCAAACAUAGUCUAAUAGGUUAUUAAUGAAAUUAUUGAUGCAGAAUAACAGGGCGGGUGACUUCAAAUGGAUACACUGAGGUCUAUCUGUGCGUGUUAGGCAUUCAUGAACCUGUUUUCUUCGGUCAAAGAGCAGCCAAUACAAGGAAAAAACAUGGCGAAAAUUAAGUGAAGUAUGACUUCUGGAAGAUUUAUCACCUUCGUAAAUGAAGUGAGAGUUUUGACCGAAUUGAAGUAAAAAAAUUAAAUGCAACGGCUAGACCGGCUCCAACUAUUAAGAUUAUAAGUGCCACACAGAAAGAACGGAAAGAACGGUCCUAGUAAAUGAAGUAUAAAGACAUGAAAACAUAAAAUUGUCCAGGUAAAUGAAGACAUGCAAUGAAGAAGAAAUCUGUUGCAGACUACACAAAUCACAACCACAUAAAUCAACCACCCACCCAUUUUUCGAACUUCCAGCUCUCAUGCACUGGCACAGUUCGGUCCUUUUAAAAAUUAAAGUAGGCAUCUAAAAUUUUAUUGGUUUCAAGAAAUUUGGUGCACUAGGAUCCAAUGAAGAGAACCUUUUUAUUCUAAAUAUUCAAUAGUAGAUUCCAUUCUUAGCUUACCAAUAUAUAUAAAUUACUCAGGACCUUAAGAAGUUGAUAUUACAAUUUAAACAAUGUUAUAUCAUGUGUAUUAGGAGAGAACCAAUCUCACCCACAAAUCAAGAACACUCAAUUGUCAAUUCUUAAGUUUAUGACUAAUAUAGUUUAUGUAUCUUUUGGAAAGUCAUGCGUAUAUUUAAAAGACUAUAGUGUACACCAAUAAUAAUAUACUUGCACCAUUCAUCUAUGUACCUCUUUCUGGUAUCAGAGCAAUUCUAGCUCCCAUGAGUUCUUUUUUUCGCCUUCAUCCUAUGUUUCACCAUGGCUGAAGCAAGCUCAACCAGGCUAUCCCACCUUCCCUUACCUACCAAUACAACCAUGAACCUGGACAAUCUCAUUGCCAUCAACACAAUUAGCUAGCCAACUUCCACUCAAGCUCAUCCUCACUAACUAUUACUCAUGGAAAACAUAGUUUGCUGCACUGCUCUUUGGAUAUGACCUACUUGGCUACAUUGUCGGAACAAAGCCAGGACAAACAAAUAUCAAUCGUAACUAUACUAUUUGGACAAGUAGGACAAGCUUCUUCUUCUAGGAAUCAUCGGCUCUCUCAGCCAUAAAGUCGUACCUGUGGUUCAUUCAUGCAAAACUUCCACUAAAGCUUGGCAUCAUUUUUCAAAGCUCUAUGUCAAUCCCUCAUUCUCCAAAACCAUGGGAUUGGUAGAGCAACUCAUUCUUCUCAACCAUGGCUCUUAACCAAUGGUUAACUACCUUGCAACAAUCCAUGAUAUUAUUGAUGAAUUGGACCUUCUUAGAGAAGCCAUUCCAAACCAAUAACUCACCCCUUAUGCAUGCAAACAUGUCACCCACGAAUUCAAUGAAUUGUUGUUGUUAUAUGCGCACGAGAUACUAUGAUCACAUUUGAUGAGCUGCAUGAAAAAUUGAUGGAAUAUGAAGCCUUCCUCAUGUAGGAAGAGCUUCGUUCCACUAGCACUCUUGGUACCAUUAAAGUCAACAAUACACAAUUUUCAUCUUCCCAUAGUGACAAAAACGCUAGCCAAAAAUAUUUCCCUAGUAGGAAAGGAUACAAAGGCCAACAUCCUCCUCAUUUUGGGAAUCAACACCCCAACAAGAACGCCACUAUGAUUUGCCAAUUCUGCGAGAAGAAAGGUCAUACUACUUGCUAGUGUUACUUGGCUAAGAAAUUGUUCCUUUCAUCCACACCUACUACUAGUCCAAUUAUCCCCACAAACAACUUCCUAACCAAUUGGCUCGUAGAUAUCAGUGCCUCACAUCAUGUUACAUCUAAUCUUAACAAUUUGUCUCUCUGCCAACCAAUGAAUCUGGUCAUUAAUAGUUUUCACAUUUCCUAUACUUGGAGGGUUGUUCCAAGAUUAAAUAAAGUUUUUUCCCAAGCUAAUCUUAAUGUAGUCUUUUCCUAUUCUUUGAGGGUUGUUCCAAGAUUAAAUAUGCUCAGUUUCAGAAUUGAAAGGACUUUUUCAUAUUGCUAAGAAAAAAACUUAUGAGAUUGAUUUUUCUAUCAAAAUUCUUAUCUCUAAAGUGGAUUCCUUUGAGUGGUGAGCUUAAUUCUGAGUUCUUAUCUUUAAGGUGAUGAAUUUCUUAUCGUUAAAGUGGUGAACUUGUGUUAUUAACUUAUCAUUUUAUUUCCUUAAAACGGUAUCAUUUUGUGUCAGAAAAAGUAGUUACAGGCUCCCUUCAAGUUUCUUAUGUAUCAACCCACAAUCAACUUGUGGAUAUACUCAACAAACCAUUGCCCAAGUCCCGCUUUACAUUCUUUCAGUCCAAGAUUGGCAUUUUUUUUUUUUUUAUGGAAGCACCAUCUUGCAAGGGCAUAUUAGGAGAGAACCAAUCUAACCCACAAAUUAAGAGCACUCAACAAACCAUUGCAAGGGCAUAUUAGGAAAGUCAUGUGUAUAAGAUUGUAGUGUACACCAAUACUAAUAUACUUUCACCAUUCAUCUAUUUACCUCUUUAAUGUGAAUGACAUCUACACCAAAAGAUAAUUUGGUGCCUAUACAUGCGUUAGUUUUUCAACUAAAUUGUUGAACAAAUGCCAUGAAUUGAGGUAUUACGAAUUAUUAAAAAGUUAAACUUGACUUAGAAUGUUUCUAAAAAUUAGAAUUUCACUUAGUUUAAGCUAACUAGAAUAUUUUAUUUUUGGCAAUUUAUUAUUUUCUAUUUUUUUUUUAUGAAGUUUUAUAUUUUAUAAGAAGUUUCUAUUUUAUUAGGUGUUAGUAUCUAUAAAUAAGAUGUAAUUUAAUAGUUGAAUAAGAGCGGUGAAAAACAAUAAUUUUUUUCUUAAUCCAUCUCAGUUGCUUAUCUCCCUUUAUGUUAUUAUUUGUCAUAAGUUAUUUCAACCCUAUUACUCCAACAAAUGGCUAUCACUGUCAUUCAAAAAAGUGGAAAUUGGCAUGUAUCUAUUUCAAGUCCACAAAGUCAAUAAAUGUAAUUACAAUAAAGGGGUAUGAAACUACUCUAUCCUAAAAUUAAUCAAAAGGAAUUUUUUUUUUGAAAAAUAUAAGUAAGAAAGAUAAGAAAGCUCUUACCUCCAUCAAUUAAGCAAUGGAUGAAGGUACUUUUGAGAAGAUUUUCAGUGCAACCAUAACCAAAUAUGAGAGAAUUUUAAGCACACAUAACAUAUUUAACAAUAUACAAAAGAUUAAUCUUCAAACUCUAAUAAGAGAAUUUGAAAGUUUGAGCAUGAAAAAAGAAAUCGAAAUAAAUCUCUAAUUAUUUUUCUAGAGUAUUAGCUGUUGUGAGUUUACAAUAAAAAUAUGUCAAAAGUUUGAAUGAUAGCCAUGUGGUAAAAAAAUAUGUUCAAUCUUUAGAUUCCAAAUAAGUUUAACUAUAUUGUUGUUGUCAUUGAAGAAUAUAAACAUUUAGAUUCUAUCACCAUUGAUCAACUCAUGAGAUCACUAUAGACUCAUAAAGAGAUUAAAAAGAAAUAACUAAGAAAAAUUACAACUUUUUUAAACAGAUUAAACUUAUACUAAAGGAGAAUGAUGAAAACAUUAGUGAAAGAAGUCAAAACAAUCAUGAAUAUGUCAAAGACAUGGUCAUAGCCAUGGCUAAGACAAUAGAGGAAGAGAUAGGUUUAAUUUAUCAAACAAUGAAAUAACAAGUCAAAAUUCACAUUCCUCAAGAGGACAUGAAAGAUGACACAACUUCAGGCAUAAUAAAAGAAGAGGAUAUGAUAAAUUUCAAAUUGAAUGUUAUAAUUAUAAAAAAUAUGGUCAUGAUGCUUAUGAAUAUAGAAAUGCUACAAACAAUAUGAAAAGAUACGUCAAAGGAGUUGCCACCUAGGACCAAACUUCCUGCUGAUCAAGUCUCAUAUCGAAUAUUGUAAACCCUCAAUUUUGUCCCUUUAGCACAUGUCUUUAAAAUUCGUUUUCAAUGCUCCACAAUAGUUCCUUGGUGGCCCAUGGCUACUCAUACCACUUACCUUUUUCUGAGUCACCUCGGAGACUUUGGUUGAGGGAUUAUCUGACCCCUUAUUGUGACCCUUGGCAGCCCUAACUUAGACUUAGGCUUUUCUUGCUUUUUAGGAUAGCUUUUAGAUACACUUGGCCCAUUAGGCACCACCUUAGGCCCACUUAGGUCACCUUUUAAGUAAUUUUUUGCAUGUUUGCAUGAUUGCAUUUUUUUGUAUGACUUGCAUGGCUUGUGGGGCCCGAUUUUUGUUAAUUUGUUUAUUUUUAUUUAUUUAUUUUACUUUAUUUUUUAUUUUUUAUUUUUUAUUUUUUUUUUACUAUCAUUCACUUUUUAUUGGUUAUCUUCCUCUUUAUAUUAUUUUCCUUAACUUAUUUAUUUAUUUAUUAUUUUUACCAUUUUCUAAUUUAUUUACUUAUUUAUCUAUUCAUUCAAUUAUUUAACUUAAAAAAUUUCAUGCUUUUGCAAGGAAACUUACCAUUGGAGUUUAAGGAAAGUGGGACUCUCCAUCGAAGGUUUUUGGAGGGGAAUUUGAAAUUGGGAAGAUUGCUUUUGAAUUGGAAGAUUUAAAAAAAAAGGAAAAGGUGAAAAGAAGAAAGAAAAUAAGAGAAUUUGUCUUUUUUAGAGAGAUUUAGGUUUUAGGGGGGUAAUAUAUAUAUAUAUGUGAGAAAAGGAAAAGAAGAGGACACGUAUUGGAGUCACGGUAGGGAGAGGAAUAAAGAUAGCAAAAAAAGGAUUUUUUCUUUUGAGGAGUACGCUGAAGAAGAGGAAGGAGAUGGGUGAUUCAUUACUCUGCAGCUGCCUAAAGGUUAUAGUGUUUUCAUGUUUCACUUUUAUUGAUUUUUCGUCAAGAUCAGUUUGGUACUGCUUUAGUCUCUCUAUAUCCUUGCUUCCCAUAGAGAUGUGGAUGCUUGCUAAUCAGGUAUGCCCUUUCUACCCCACAACCCUAAAAUUCUAUGAAUGUGUAUGUUCUCAUGAGACAUGACCAUGUUUGAUGCCAUAAUUGAUUGCCUUGAUGCUUGAUUGAUAAUCUUUGAUGAAAAUACAUACCAUGUAUCAUAUUUCCAAACUAAUCUCUUAUGUUUCAUGAUAGCGCUUGAGAAGCGGUUUCGGUACGCACCCUAACUUUCCUUUAUUGUGAUUUGAUCUUGUUUAGCAAGCUAUUUUUUGAAAUCACCUUAGUCUAUCUAGGUACUCUCAAUUAAUCAAUUAAUUGCCCCACUUCCCUCAACUUAGUCAGUAGAGACCUCUUUGGGGCUUAGAGGGGUGCUACCUCCUAGAGGUACCUUCCCAAUAAGCAACCUGAUCCCCAGACCUAGACUCGGGUUUCUCAAAGACAUGCUUUUUCCAAAACUAUGGAGUCACUUUUUAGGGUUUCUCUUUCUUGUUUUAUUUUCCCUUCAAAAUAAAAAUAAAAUAGGUGGUGAUUCCAACUUUUCUAAAAUUAAUUUUUCACAAAUAAAAAACUAGUCUCGCCGAUCGAGUGGGGACACACGUGAAAAAUGCGGGUCCGCAAAUAUCACUUUCGAAGUUACUAGAGCUAAGGAGGUAAUUGAAGAAACUAUUGGAUGCAUGCAUGAUCCAAUCUUUAAGGGUUUGUUUUGGUGCUCCUAUCUUAUUCCAAAUAGAUGUGUGUUAACUAUUGGGCCUUGAACAAAGUAACGAUCAAGAAUAAGUAUCCAAUCUCCUUAGUGGAAGAAUUAUUUAAUAAACUGGCCAAGGCAAAGUUUUUCUCCAAAUUCGACUAACGGUUAGGAUACUAGCAAGUAAGGAUUGUAAAGGGGGACAAAAAAAAAAAAAAGACUAUAUGUGUAACUCACUAUGGACCAUAUGAGUUCCUCAUGAUGCCAUUUAGACUAACUAAUGCCUCAAUAACAUUCUACAACCUAAUGAAUGAUUGCCAUACAAGUUCUUAUAUGCCUUUGUUGUGGUUUACUUUAAUGCAUUGUUGUCUAAAGCAAGACCUUAGAAGAGCCUGUGAAUCACUUGAGAUUAGUGUUUCAAAGACUAAGAGAACAUGAACUCUACUUGAAGAUGGAGAAGUGUGAGUUCGCACAAAGUCAUAUUACCUAUCUAGGACAUUAGAUAGAGGAAGGGUUUAUCAAGAUGGAUGUUUAGACCAUUAAAGAUUGGCAUGCUCUAAGCAAGAUGACACUACCUGACUAUUAUUGAAUGUACAUAAGGGGCUACUUCAAGAUAGUGGCUCCCCUUGCUAACCUUCUAAAGAAGGAUAUUUGCUAGGAUUGGAGGUUUGAAUGCUAGAAAGAUUUUGAGAAGUUGAAAGUAGUGAUUUGAGUCAAGUUGGUGUUGCAAUUACUAGAUUUGGAUCUCCUAUUUGAGGCUCAAAUAGAUGCAUCAGCUAGGGCCUUAGGAAGGAUCUUGGUGCAGGAAGGGCACCCAAUAGCCUUUGAGAGUUGAAAACUUAAUGAGUUAGAACAAAGAUACUCCAUUCACGAGAAAGAGAUGACAAUGAUUAUCCAUUGCUUAUAGUAGUGGAAGCAUUAUCUGUUGGGGAGUAUAUUUACUAUAUAUGGUCACAGGCAACAUAGUUAAUACAUUUUUCAAGAUGCAAAAGGAGUUGAGCCCUAAGCAAUCUAGGUGGCAAGAAUUCCUAGCCGACUUCAAGUUUAAAUGGUUGUAUUGACCAAGAAGACAUACUGUAGUUGUAGAUGCCUUAAACCAGAAGGAAUUGACAGAGUAUGUGAUCCCUCUAUCACAUGUGAUCUCAUAUUUUAAUGAAAAGAUCAAGCAAGCUGCUAAGCUUGAUUCUACUUAUGAGAAGAUGAAUCAACAAGUCAAAGAGGGGGCUAUUAAAAAGUAUUGGCUAGAAGAUGACCUCUUGGUGGCUAAAAGAGGUAGGCUAUGUGUACCAAGAAGUUGCUUACAUAAGGAGUUACUAAGAGAGACCUAUGAUGUCGAGUAGCCAGGUCACCUUGGCAAAGAGAUGACAUCAAUAGUAUUGUCCAACUACUAUUACUAGCUAAAAAUAAGAGAGGACAUCUAGGCUUAUGUUCUAUAUUGUUUGAUAUGUCAAUUGGAUAAGACAGGCAAGAAGAAAGCUAUAAGGUUACUACAACCUUUCCCUAUCCUAAAGAGACCUUAGGAGAACAUAUUUGUGGACUUCAUCGGUGGCUUUCCAAAAGUGAGGGAAUUUAAGUAUAUCUUCAUGAUAGUAGAUAGACUCUUUAAGUAUGUUGCUUUCAUACUUACACCACAUGCAUGUCCCGUAAAGGAGGUUGUUAGGCUAUUCCUCAACCAUGUGGUCAAGUACUUCAAGUUGCCUAAAGACAUAGUCAGUGAUUUUGAUGCUUGAUUCAUUGGUUAGUGUUGGAUUGAGUUGUUUAAACUCCUAGGAUUGAAGUUGAAGUUCUAAACAACAAAUGAUUCAUAGAUAGAUGGGCAAACAAAGUGUAUCAAAUGUGCCACUUAAGGAAUACCUCAGACACUAUGUUUUUGCAACACAAAAGAACUAGAUUGAUUUAGUGGAGAUAGCUCAGUUAUCCUAUAACUUACAUAAGAGUUCAAUAAUAGGGUUGAGUCCCUUUGAAUUGGCUAACAAGUGUUAGGGUUCCCAACAAAUACCCCCUUAGAGGUUAGGGUUUCUAAGGUUUUUCAGUUGUCUUCCUAAUCUAGAGAGCGUAAGAGAAAGAGCUUAGGAAUCAUCCCUUCUAAAGCCCACUCUUUGGAGUUCUAAGAUCGUAGUUCGAGUCAUCAAGUGUAAGAUCUUGGAUGUACAAGACCUCCAAACUCUUCAAGUUUAUUUUUUACCCAUGAAAUUGAUUUGGGGACAUCCAGAUCUAGACAUGAAUGUUUCUUCUCUAGUUUUAUUAAUCUAAAUCAUUUUAAAAGUCAUAUUUCAAUUCAAAUUAGUUUCUACAAAAGCCUAGGGUAGAUUUACAUGUACCUAUACAAUCCAAGGUAUGGGAAUGGAAUGAUCCAAGGUUCUCAACAUACACACUAUCUUACUCCCAUGAGAUAUCAUGGUGCUUUUAUUAAGAAUACUUGUUGCUAGCUUUCCCAUAUGGAUAUAUGACCACAUUAGGGUCUCACCUAUAAAUCAAAGUUUCUUAUUGAUUUUGGUAUAAAUUCAAUAUAUUCUCAAGGUUGAGAAUCUAUGUAUUACAGUAGCUUAGUGAAUCAUGACAACUAAUAGCCUUAUGUCAUGAUUCACUAUAGGUCUUGUCCUAUAUGUAACCAUACACACUAAUGUACUCAUCAUGGGAAACUCAUCUCAAUGGUCAUGAUAAGUCAUCUCUCCAAUUAGGAGGUGGUGCAUUGUAGUCUUUAUUGAAUUGCCCAAAUCUAUGAACCAAUUAUAAACAACUAAUCAUCUUGCAAGGAAUCCAUGACUUAUGUCCUUUAUGCAAUUCCUAGUACACUAAAGUCAUAUGCAAUGCAAGUGAAAUGACAUGUUUAUUUAGGUAACCAAUCAGUACAUAAUGGGAUAGUAAGUUGAGCAAUAAACAUAAAUAAAUAAAUUUAUUAAUGAAUCUACAACUAUUAUAUCAUGUCAUGCUUUCCAAGGCACUAUCCCAAUAGGUUGGAUUAGGUGACUCAAGUUCAGUUUAAGCUUAAGUCACUUAAACCCAUAAGAAGCCCUAUAUAAACACUCUAAGAGGUUUAGGGUUCACGAUUUUAACAUUUUGGCCACCAUCUUCCUAAAAGAGAGUAAGAGCAAGCCUUAACCACUCUUAGGAGAGGAAGAGAAGCUCACCCUUAUCUUAUGCCAUGAUCCUUGAAAUGAGAGAUCGAGUAAAAGAUCUUUGGGUAGAUGAACUCCACCACAUCCCCAACAUCUUCUUUGACAUCUUCUUGGGAUUAGAUUCGAUUUUGGAACAUCCAAAUUGUAGGUAUGAAACUUUAACCUCUACAUCUAGAUCAUAAUGUGGUUUUAGUUACCAUAUAUUUUUACUAUGUUAGAUACAAAGCCUAUGAACUAAGUAACUAGUGGUUCCCAACAGUUUAUAGUUAUAAAAUGAUGAAAACUAAUGUCUUUUCACCAACUAAACCUCAUAAAGCAUUAAAAUCAUUAGUUUCAUUGCAAAUUCAAGUUAAAGAUUAAAAUGCACCAAGUAUGAGUCUCACCCACAAAAUGAUCCCUAAUGCUCAUUAAUAUAUAUAUUAAAAGUCAAAAGGAUAAUGAAGAUGAUGACAAACCAAUAAUCAAAGCAAACUUUUGAUAAUGAAGAAAUAUGUUAUGUUCAGUGUCAAAAUAAAAUCAACACUAAAUUUUCUAAUAAAAGAAUUUGAUAGUAGGUUGUGACUACAACCUAGAUAUCAAUUCCAUAUUGAUACAAAAACAGAGCUUAAGGCAAUUUGAAAAACAAGCAUAAAAUCGAUGGUUUUGGAAUUGAUAAUAAAAUCAAUAAACCAACUCAACUUGAUACUCCUUGACAACAUGGAACCAAUGUCAAUCCCAAUAUGAUAACAAGAUCUAUACAACAUGAAAAACUGACAAAGCAAAAUUUACCAGACUUGGUAUCAAAUCAAAAUCAACAUGUAUUUCAAUAAAUUAUAUAUAUAUAAAUCAAUACAACACUAACAAUGGUAAUGUUAUUAUUUGGGAUAAACUAAUAUACAAAUAAUAAAGGCUCUGAGGUAUCAAAAUAUCAUUAAUGAGUACAAAAUCUAAUUCAACCAAUUUCAGGCAUUCUCAUGUGAAUUUACAAGUAUAAAAUAAUGAAAACUAAUGCAUUUUCACAAGCUAAACCUCAUAAAAGCAUUGAAACCAUUAGUUUCAUUGUAAUUUCAAACUAAAUAUCAAAAUGCACCAAAUAUGAGUCUCUCACGCAAAAUGAUUCCUAAUGCUCAUUAAUCUGAUUUUUUUUUUUUUCAUAUAAGACAAAAACAAAAACAAUUCAACAAUUUUUAUAGGGCUAAUUUUUUUUAAAAUGAUAUAGAAUAAUACAAAAGAAAAUAGAAAGGAGAGGAUAAUAUAUUGAAUGAAAGCUUGAAGUGCAGUUGGGGAGGCUUCAAGACUUGUUCAUAGCUUUGAUCUUCCUUUUUGAUCUCCAAUUUGACAAAGUUUCUUCUGCUUUUAUUUCCAUAGAAUUGUCUCCUUUGAAAAUGUAGCUCCCUCUUUGAAUUUAUUGCCUUGAGGAUGAUGAGGAUGAGGAGGAUGAUGAUAAACCAAUAAUCAAAGUUAACUUUUAAUAAUGAAAAAAUAUACUAGGUUCAAUGUCAAAAUCAAAUCAACACCAAAUUCUCUAAUAAAGGAAUUUGAUAAUAAGUUGUGACUCCAAACCAAAUAUAAAUUUCAUUUUGAUACAAAAACUGAGGCUAGACUAAUUCGAUAAACAAACAUAAAAUAGGUGGUUCGGGAAUUGAUUUGAAAUUAAUACUUGAGUAAAUACAACUACCCAAAUUGAUACUCCUCUACAACAUAGAACCAAUGUCAAUCCCAAUAUGAUAACAAGAUCUAUGCACCAUGAAAAAUCAACAGAACAACAAUUACCAUAGACUUGCAUUGAAUCUAAAUUAACAUUGAUUUCAAUGAAGUAUUAAAAAAUCAAUACAAUACAAACAAUGGCAACAUUAUUCUUUGGGAUGCAUGGAUACAAAAACAAUUAAGACUUUGAGGUAUCAAAAUGUUAUUAAUGCUUCAAUAAAAAAUCUAAUUCAACAAGUUUUUUUUUUAUUUCCAUUUGAAUUUACAAGUAUAAAAUGAUGGAAACUAAUGCAUUUUCAAUAGCUAAAACUCACAAAAGCAUUAUGUAGAACCUUCCUUUUUGUCCUGGUAACACAUGCUUUUAAUCGUAUUUAGUACCCCUCAUUUUUAGCAAUUUAAAUUGUUUAUAUAUAUAUAGAUUAUACGAAUGUUUUAACACUUAGAGAAAUUGGAAUGAAGCAAAAUAUGCAAAAAAAAAAAAAAAAAAAAAGAAAUAAUUGUCUAUAGUUAUCUUUAUUAUUUUUUAUACAUUUCUAUUGACAUGGUAUAAAUCAUCAAUAAUUGUUGUGAGUAAUAGCAUUGAGAAAAGUCAAUGUCCAUAAUAAUACUCUAUUGCCAUUUUUUAUUUUUUAUUUUUGUAAAAUAAUAAAUCAAAUCACAUCUUGUAACAUUAUCAUUAAGAUUUACAUGAUUUCUUACAAUGUAGCUUAAAACCAAAUAUUUCAUCAAAGAAGUUAUCAAUAAUUAGCCCCACACAAUGAUAUCUAUUAUAAUACAGACUUCCUUCAAUAUGUGUGUUUGUGAGUGUAAAGAAAAUAACAAAGAUAAGAAAGUAAGGUAAUAGAAAUUGAGAAAGUAAGAGAAAUAUUUUUUUUUUGUUUUAUUUUUCUCUCUCUAUUUAUUAUGCUAUUUAUAGAGUAAUAUAUAUAGUAAACCUAACUAAAAAAUUCUUUAACAAUAAUAGAAGAAAACCAAUGAGUAUAUGACACGUGUACAUCUUGUAACCAUAUGAAACUAUCUCUUAACAUUCUUCCUUGAACUUAAGGUAGAAAGAUUUUCUACUUUGAGUUUGUUUCUUAGAUUUACAAAGUGAGUGCUUGAGACAACUUUUGUUAAGACAUCUGCUACUUGAUCAAUGGAAGGCACUUGUUGGACUAAAACCUUUCUUUGCAAAACCUUUUCCUUGACAAAAUGUAAAUCCAAUUCAAUGUGUUUGUCCUAGCAAGUAAUAUUGGAUUAGCAACCAACAUAAUAGUGCUAAGAUUAUCACACCAAAUAACUAGUGGUGUCGGCAAAGUGAUUUUAAGUUUUGAGAGAAGAUAUUGUAACCAAGUGAUUUUUGCAACGAAACUAGUUAGGUUUCUAUACUCUACUCUUGUACUUGAUCUAAAAAUAGUAUGUUGUUUCUUUGACUGCUAAGUGACUACAUUUAAACCAAAGUAUACACAAAAUCCUAAAGUUGAUCUUCAAUCAUGAGGAUCAAAGGCCCAAUCGACAUCACAAAAUGCUAUAAGAUCAAGAGUAGGAGACUUUCUUAAAUGGAAUUUCAAGUAUCUAAGAAUUCUUUUGACUACUGUUUAAUGAGAUUCUAAGGGAGCUUGCAUAUAUUGACACUUUAUUAAUACUAUAGGUAAUUUCAAGCCUAUUAACUAUUCCUUAUUGUAAAGGUCUUACAAUUGAUCUAUAUAACUUCACAUCCUAAACUGAUUCACUUCCAUAGCUUAAAAGUUUCUAUUCAUUGGUCAUAGGAGUAGAAAUAGGAUUGGAACCUUGCAUUUUGAAUUUUCAUAAUAGAUCAGUUAAGUAUUUUCCUUGAGAGAGGUGAAUGCCUUCAACAAUAUGCUUUACUUCAAUCCCUAAAAAAUAAUUGACUUCUCCAAGAUCUUUUAAGGUAUACUCUCUAUUUAAUUGGUAAUGAGAUAAAUCAUAACUUUUUCACUACUACCAGUGAUAAGAAUAUCAUCUACAUAUACAAGAAUAUAGGUAGAAUGAAUAGAGAUUGAUCUAACUUUGUAGAGAUAAAUCCAAAAGGAAUAUAGGGUUGCACUUAACUUUUCAAGCCAAGCACUUGGUGCUUGUUUGAAGUCAUAUAAAGUUUUAUGUAAUUUGUGAACAAGAUGAGACUAGUUGUGCUGAAUAAAACCAGGAGAUUGUUGCAUAAAAACUUCCUCAUGUUAUUAAUGUCUAAUUGAUGAAUUAACCAACCUCUAGACAAAGUUAUAGUAAGCAUAACCCAAAUAGUGGCAUGUUUAACAACUGGAUUGAACGUUUCAGUGAAAUCAAAACCAGAUACUUAAUGAAACUCUUUAGCCACUAACUUGGCUUUGUACUUCUAAAUUGAGCCAUUGGGGUUUUCUUUCACUUUAAAUACCCAUUUGCAGCCAAUAGGUGUUCUUCCAGGUGGUAAUGAGACUAAGGAUCAUGUAUUAUUCUUCAAAAAAGCCAUCAAUUCAUCAGUCAUUGCUUGUUUCCAAUGAUGUAUAUGUAAAUCUUCCUUAACACAAGUAGGUUCACAUGUGGCAGCAAAAAGCUUUGGUUUAAAAAAUUCCAGUUUUAGAUCGAGUGACCAUAGAAUGAGUAUUUUUGCAAGGUUGCAUUGGAACAAAAGCUAAAUCUUCUUGUGUUUGGUCUUGUGAAAGAGCUCUAUGACCAACAACACUGUCAUAAGUAUUAGUAGCAAGAGGAGAGGUAGUGGGUACUAAAACAUUAGUAACAGAUUGGACAAUUUCUAGAUGAGUAAACCUACCAAAAAAAGAAAUUAUUAGAGAAGCAACAGAAAGAUGAAAAAAGGGUGAAACAUAAUUAGAUAAGGAUGAUUGAAUUUUAUGAGCAAAAGAAAAUGAAGACUCACAGAAAAUGACAUCUCGAGAAAUAAUAAAUUUGCCAUUAAAAUCAAGACAUUUAUAGCCUUGAUGAUUGAGACUAUAACCUAGAAAAGUACAUUCAACGAAUUGGAACUGAAGCUUGUGUUUGUUAUAUGAAUGAAUGUUAUGAAAAUAGGAGCAACCAAAUAUUUUUAAGAAAAAGUAAUCUGGUAAGGUUUUGAACAAAACUUCUAGAGGAGUUUUAUGAUGAAAAACAAAAGUUAGUAAAUUUAUUGUUGAGAUAAACAUAAGCUUUAAAGGCUUCAUCCCAAUAUUCCAUUGGCAUUAAAGCAGAUGCUAACAAGGUGAGACCAUGUUCUACAAUGGUUUUAUGCCUCCUUUCAGGCCAACCAUUUUGUUCAUGAGUAUAAAGACAAGAAUAUCUAUAAAAAAUGCCAUUUAAAGUUAAAAAAUUUGUGAAAGCUCUAUAUUCUCCACCCUAAUUUGUUUGUAUGGUGUUCAUUUUAAAUCCUAGUUGUAAUUCACCUUGAGUUUUGAAAUUAAGAAAGGCUUGAAAUGCAUCUAAUUUAUAUCUAAGCAAGUAGAUCCAAGAAAAUCUUGAGUAAGCAUCAACAAAGUGAAUGUAGUAGUAAUAACCACUAGAAGAUUGAAGUAGAGAGGGACCCCAUAAAUCAGAGUGUAUAAGUUGUAGGGUUUGAGUGUAAACAAUGUCAGAAAAAUAAAAAAGAAGUUUGUGAAUCUUGCCAUAACAACAAGUUGAGCAAAAAGAAAAUUGCAUUUUAUUAGGAACAUAAAUAUUGCAAUUAAUUAGACAGAACAAACUUUAAAAUUUUAAAGAAUGGAUGUCCAAGUUUGUGAUGCCAUAGAUCAAAAGUAUUCAAAGAACCAGAAGAAUCCUUAGUUGCAGUACAAGAGUCAAGAUUAUCUUGAAAGGGGCUAGAAACAUGAUUCUGAAAUAAAGAGGUGGAAAACUCGCAAAAGGUUGUAAAAGAUGGAACUGAUAGUGGCUUUGAUGAAGACAAUAGUGUGAAAUCAUCAAAUACGUAAAGUUCAUUCUUAACUCUCCUUGCCAUGAAAAUUUCCUUGGAAGCUUGAUCUUUGACAUAACAGAAAUUAGGAAAGAACUCAAAAUACAUAGCAUUAUCUUUGGCAAAUUUAGAGACAUUGAGCAAAUUUUUGGUAAUAGAUGGAACAUGAAGAAGAUGAUUUAAAGAGAGCAAUUUCAAAGUAAAUUGAGAUUGAAAAGAUGAUUGUCCAAUAUGUUUAAUGUUCAACCCUGUUCCAUUACCCAUCAUGAUCUUAUCUUACCCAACAAAUUUAGUUUUAUUCAUCAUAUUAUUAAUGUCUAGUGUGAUAUGAUUUGUAGCUCCUGAAUUUGGGUAGGCAAAUUCAAGAGUAGUAGCAACCAUGGCAAUCAUUUGUGAUGAAUCUUGAGUAGAAGGAAAUUCAUGCUAAAAUGAAGAUGGAUCAAAUCUAUAGUAACAUGGUUACACCAAAUGACCAACACGACCACAAAAUUGGCAUUGAGGUUUAUUGAAAUUCCAAUAAUUUUGACCACCAUUGAAGCCUCCAUGACCUUUGCUACUAGGACCUCUAAAUUUAUUGAAUCCACGACUACCAAAACCUCCUUUACUAUGAAAGUUAUUGAAAACACAAAAAUCGCCCUGAACAAAAGUAGAAAAGCCAUUUUCAGAAGAAUUGUAAGACCUUUUCUUGUCUUUGUUAUUCUCACUCUGAGUUGCUAAGUUAGCAUUCAAAUUAGAAUCUAAAACUUUUAUAGCCUUCUCAAUGUGCCUUUCUUGAGCCAAAAGAACAAACUUUAUUUCAUCAACAGUAUAUGAAUCCAUGUGUGUGGUAACAACAGUAAUCAAUGUGUCAUACUUGAGGGUAAUCCUUCAAAAAUUGUGUCAAUAUGAUCCAAAGUAGAUAUAGAAUAAUUAACCAAUAAUAUGCUAUCAACAAUGAUUUUGAUUUGCAAGUGAUAAUCAUUCAUGGAUGAUGAACCUUUCUAAGAGCUCUUGAUUUGCAUCUUGAACUUAUCAGUCUUAGUAUGAGUUUUAGUAGCAAAGAAAAUCUCCAAUUUCUCCCAAAUCUGAAAAGAAGUUACACAUCCAACCAUUCUUGUUAAAAGCCCUUUGGACAUUAAUGAAUGAAACCAAGAGAUUAGUAAUUAGUUCUGUUGUUCCCAAUUAGAGAAAUCUCAAUUGAUUUUACCACUUGUUUCAUUAAUGGAAGAAAGAAAUUUUGGAGGAGUGGUAUCGGUUCUAUUGAUGAACUUUGAGAGCUUGUAACCCUUGAUUGCAACUUCAACUUGUUGACGCCAAAUCAAAAAAUUAUUAUGAUAAAGUUUUAUGGCAAUUGAGUGAUUGAAGGAAAUCAGAACAAAUUGGGAUAGGAACGAAAAAGUAGGGGUGAGGGAAUCGGCCAUGGAUGAGACCUCCGAUACCACGUAAAGAAAGUAAUAGAGAUAAGAAAGUUAGGUAACAGAAAUUGAGAAAAAUCUUUUCUCAUUUUCUAUUUUAUUUUUCUAUUUCUAUUUAUUUUGCUAUUUACAGAGUAAUAUAUAUAGUAAACCUAACUAACAAAUUCUCUAGCAAUUCAUCUAACAAUAAUAGAAGAAAAUCAACGAGCAUAUGACACAUGUACAUCUUGUAAUCAUAUGAAAUUAUCUCUUAACAAUGAGUAAAAAACAAAGUUCUUGGUUUAUAUUCAACAUAAAUGUUAUAAAGGUAUUGCUAAUGGCAAGUAAUAACAAAAAAUCUCAAUACUAAAGUUUUUAGCAUGCUAACAUUUAUUUUUUCUGUUAUAACAACUAUAUUAGUAUAGAAUAUUCUCGAUAUAGUUUGUUAGAAUAAGUUUUGAGCUAUACAACCUCGUUUAGCAAUGUAAGGAAAAACACUUUCCUAUAUAUUUUUUGUACUUUCAAACUAUCAAUUAAAUUCAAUGAAAUGAGAAUGUGUUUUCUCUUUUCUAUUCUCUUCUUAUAAUAUGGUAUCAAAACAUUUUCCUUUUGUUGUUCUUCCAUCUUCUUGCUAAAAUGACCCAUGGUGGUCAAAAUAACAACACCAACUUAUUCAAGUCAUUGAUACCUCCUUCUUCCACUAGUACCAUGGCUUAACAUGAUUCUUCUUCUUCCAUGAAUAACACUAAUGGUCCUUUUUUCUUGCACAGUUGUGACCAUCCCGAAUUGGUUCUUGUUUUUCAUUUCCUUACUACUCUUAACUAAAAUUGUUGGAGUCAAGCCAUGGCCAUGGCUCUCAACACCAAGCAUAAACUCGUUUUUGUCAAUGGAUUGAUUCCACAACCACCUUCAGAGAAUCCUGUUGCUAAGGUUUGGUUAAGAUGUAAUAGUAUGGUCACUUAUUGGCUUCUCAAUGUCGUUUCCAAAGAGAUUAUUGAUAAUUUCCUCUACCUUGAUAGUGCUCAAGAUAUUUGGGCAGAUCUAUGAUCCAUGCCCAGUCGAGUGUUUAUCAAAACAUUUAUAAAACCUACAACACCUUAUAUUAGGAUAGCAAAGACAAAGCUACUAUAGUAUAAUGACUCUAGGAUUGUUGAUUCCUGCCCAGUCGGUGUCUCAACUAAUUCGUGUCCAGUUGGUAUCCUUGAUUGCGGGAGUAAUCAACAAAAUUUAUAACCUAUUACACCAUGAACUAGGGUAGCAAAGACAAAGCUAUUGAUUACUACCCAAAAAGUGUUAUUUUGCACCUUUAAUUCAUUAUGUUUUAAGCACUUUUGUGUAGUAGUUCUCCAUUUUUAUUCAAAUUGGCAUGUUAAGGACCUAGCAAUGACUUCUAAUCAUAUUUGUGGCUAUUUUUAGUGUUUUGACAGCUUUUUGGAUCAUUAAGACAAGCCAAGUAAAAGAGAGAAGCAAAGAGGAAAACAGAGUGAAGAAAACAGAGGACAGCAGCUGCAGUCUUCCUUCGCACUUUUGGAGCACUUCCCGAAGUCCAUUUGCUACAUGCUAUAUACCAUUUCAAAUCUCAGGAAGUCAAGAAUCUAACAAUUCAAACUGUGUAUGAUUUGGAGCUGAAAUGAGGAACAUAUGGCCUUCGAAAGACAACUGCACCAAGCAUGUGCAAACUUUGCACAACAGCCCAAGCUUGUGCAAAAUUCGCACAACACCUUUCCCUUGUGCGAAAUUCGCACCAGCCCAUGCAUGGUGCGAAAUCUCCUCUGUUCUGCUGACUCCACACGAGAUCUUUUCUUUUAGAUAUUUUUGUAUAAAUUUCCAUUCUUCUCCUUGUAAUCCACCAACCAUAAGAUUUCUUAGCUAGGAAGGUUGGAAAAACUUCUCUAUAUAUAUUCCCUUGCAUCCAUUGUAAUAGAUAUAGAAGUAUGUAAUAUAGAUAUAUAAAUAUAAAGAAUAUACAGAGCCUUGCUCUGUUUUUCCUUCUCUUUUAUUUUUCUUUUUCUUGAAAGCCAAACAACCUCUGAGGAUGUUUUCCCAGAGGAUGAGAGGCUAAACUUUUGGUUUCUUGGAGUGAAGGAAGCUAGGUGAAAAGUCCAGAUGCAAAGGUGAAAACUCUCGUGCAUUAAAUACAGGUAGUUGGAGUUCAUAAAUGGCUUUUAAAUCUAAAGUUUUGCUUUAAAUCCCUUAGAAUAACUUUGAAUGGCCAAUACAUGGUAAGCUUUAGGUCUUUGUGGAUACUUAUUACUAGAUCCACACCAGUCCAUUAGUUAUCAUGUACGAGCCAUUGGAAAGUGGCUCAAGGUGAAGACCCAUAGUGUCUAAAGCCAUUAAUGGAACCUGACUACCAUUUCUAUUGACUUUUUAUGGAUUAAAUCUUCAUGGUUAAACCUAUACCGGUUCGGGAAACAACCAUCUUUUAUGUUGUUGUCCCCAAUGCGAGAAGAAGAAUCCGAAAUUUCCACUUUGCAUUCUGAACUUGAUCCUAGCAACCUUAGCUCCGGGAGACUUUCUUUCUUCCAUUUUUACCUAGUUUUAUGUUAGUUUAGUUUAAAACACCACUUUCAAAACAAAUAUUAUUUUCUUUUAAACUUAAAGUUUUUGACAAAGGAAAUCAUCAGAUUCAAUCUCUAAUCUUGAGUCUAUCACUGGUAGAGUGAAAACCCAUCCCAGAGUUCGACCCUAGAGCUGCUAUACUAUAGUAGCUUUGCUACGCUAGUAUGAGGUCAUAGGAUUUAUAAAUUUUUUUUAUUAAAAGACCCGACUGGGCACGAAUCAAAAUGGUGUCGUUGCCGGGGAUGGUGCCACUUUACAGUGAUAUGACCUUUUCAGAGUACUUGUGAUCUUCAUCACAAGUUUGGUGACUUUUCUUUUCCUUUUACUAACUUUUUUUAUUUGUUUAUUUUCCUUUGUUCAUGUUUUAGUAUAUCUUUUAUUUAGUUUUUAGUUAAUCUUAACAAUUUUCUUUAGAAUUUUAUUUUCUUUUAUUUUCUUUUGUUUUCUCUGUUUUUAAUUCACAAAUUGCUAGUUGUGCAUGCCAUUUCUAAAACACUAGUGCAAGCUAUGUUGUGUUCCAUUUGUCAAUCUUUUGAGCACUUGGUGGAGGAGUGUCCUAUCCUUCCAGCAGCGAGGGAGAUGUUUGGUAUGCCAUGUAGCAUUUGUCAGUCUUUUGAGCACCUGGUAGAGGAGUGUCCUAUCAUUCCAGUGGUGAGAGAGAUAUUUGGUGAUUAUAACACCUACAAUUCAAAUUGUAGGAAUCAUCCAAAUUUCUUUUGGGAACCACAACCACGUCAGUACAUGCAACCCACUCAAGCACCACAGCAAGCCUCAAACCUUGAACAAGCUAUGAUGAAUCUUAACAAGGUCAUGGAAGACUUUGUUGAAGCUCAGAAAUCCAUCAAUGCUCAGCUCAGUCAAAGAAUAUCACUCCCUGAUAGAGUAGAGAGUUCAUUGAAUAAAAAGAUGGAUGGAGUGCAACAUGAUCUAUCUCAAAAGAUAGAUAAUCUCCAAGAUUCAAUCUCAAGGUUUGCCAACCUCAACACAAUGCAAGAAAAAGAAAACUCUCCUUCUCAACCUUAUCAAAAUUCCAAGGGUAUCCAUGAAGUGGAGGCUCAAAAGGGAGAAUCUUCAAUGGUGAAGGAAGUUAAAAUGGUUAUCACUUUGAGUGCUAAAGAGGUUGAUUUGGCCACAUCCAAACAAGAGCAUGAAAUAGAGAAUGAAAUAGAGAAAAAGAAGAGGGAGGAAAUUAAAGGAAAGAGAAAGGGAAUUGUUUCCAUUGCCAUCAUACAAUGCAAAUCUCUAAUGAAGGAUGCAAACUUCAUAUGGGAUCCGGGCAAGCUGAACCAGGAUCAAAUUUUUUUAUGGACUUAGUUUUUUUAAAGACUAGCUAGUCCAUAUCUUUUUGUUUUAUUUUUAAAUUUGUUUUGAUUUUGAUUUCUUGCUUUAAUUUUAUUUUGGUUUGAUUUAACUUGUUUUUUUUUUAUGAUCAACAUAGGGGAAGCCAAAAAUAGAGGAAAAUAGAGCAAUUUGCACCACCCAAUUCUCUGGUGCGAAAUUCGCACCACCCUACCCCCUUGUGCGAAAUUGCCUUUGUGAGCGUUUUCCAAAAAGCAUGCUCUCAGUCCCUACCCAAAAUCUCAGUGCAAAAAUCACAGGAAUGCGAACAUUGUGUGAAAUUCCCACCGCCAUCUCCACAUGUGCGAAAUUCGCACAACACUACUCCACCUGUGCAAAAUUCGUACCACCCCAUUUCGGCAACUGUUGGGCACAUUUAGAUCACUUCCCAAAUUUCAUUUCAUGCGUACUAUAUCUCGUUUCAAAGCUUGGGAAGUCAGGAGUCCAUAGCUUCAAACGGUGCUCGAUUUGGAGUUGAAACGAAGAAGUUAUGGCCAUUUGAAGACGACUGUGCAAAGCUGAACGGAAAUGUUGCAGCCGCACCCCAUUUCGCUACUGUUGGACACGUUUUUUGGAGCACUUUCUGGAGAUAAAAUUAUGCAUACCAUAUGUCGUUUUUAAGCUUAGGAAGUCAGGAGUCCAGUGCUUCAAACGGUGUGCGAUUUAGAUUUGAAACGAAGAAGUUAUGGCCAUUUGAAACCACCACAAUUUCGCAUUUGGACGGGUGAAUAGUGCCUUGUGCGAAAUUCGCACAACCCAUUCCCUUGUGCUAAUUUUUGAGAUUCUUCAUCCCUACCCUUCCCAAUCCCAAGCCUUUGAGCCUCAUUUCUUUGCUCCAUUAUGCCUAAGACCCGAGGAGGCUAUGCCUCAGCUCCCCAGAGGCAGCAUCGUCUGAUGCCCCACCUACUGUCCCUCCUUACCAACAGAGCCCCGCGCACCCUGGGAUCACACACAUGAAGCCUCUUACUCCAUUUCUGACCUCCUUAAACCAUCAAAGCCCAUAGCUCCAGCUGAGAGCUCCAGUUGAGGAGACUAUGCCAUCCAAGGAGAAUAUCAAAACAGAGGCCAAAGUCCUGAUCCAACCCACUCAGAAGGCCACCACAGAUGCAUCAGCUCCAUAGGACCUUACCAUUAUUUGAUCAUCUCUUUACUUUUUGUCUUUACAUAUUAUAUUAGUAUAUAUAAUUCCAUGUUUUGAUGUUUUAUAUUCUGGGAUUGGAUGUAUUGCAUGAUCAUAUAUUAUAUUCUAUUUUCUCAGAUUAAUAUAUAGGCAUCAUUUUUGUUUAAACUUGACAUUUUUCUAUUUUCUCUACUCACUAUUUUUUUUUAAACAUGUGGUUUCUCUUAUACAACUCAGACUCCAUGUCACUCAAGAGGUACCACUUCCUCCCUAUUUUUUAAUCGCUUUGUCACAUUGAGGACAAUGUUUAGCUUGGUUGGGGGGAGAGUUGAGGAAGGAAGUUUUUGUUAUUAAUGCUAAGUUAUUUUGGUAAUUUAGUUGCUUUUUGCUUAAUUUUAAAAAAUUUUUAAAGUUUUUUUUGAAUACUCUCCAUGGUUAUUAAGGAAAAAAUUUCAAAAUGAAAUGGGAGAAAUUAAAUUUUUGUCUUUUUACUUGAAACUUAGAGUUUGUAUUAUGUUUAUUAAAGUUGAUGAAUUAUUGAACUCCUAUUGAUUUCAACCUUAUUUCUUCCACUUUAAGCUUAUCACACACCAUGCACACUAGGUUCCGUUUAUAAGAUGAAAAACUAUUUUACCCCUUGACUUAGGAAAAUUUAGACUUGGUACCUUUGACCUCAUUUUAAUAGUGUUGAGACACCUUAUAAAAGGCCAAUGAGCCUUUGGAAAAAGAAAGAAAAAGAAAAAUGUUUUACUUGCCUUGAAACCCGAGCAAGGUCUGAGGGGUAUAUGGUGAAAAUCUUUAAAACCUGGUGCCCUAAGCCUUCAAUGGUUGGGAGUCACCGACCUCAAUGCUCGUUACAUGGGUGAAUAGGUGGAGUUUAACAUAUUGUAGGUGCUUGGGUAUUAAAAAUUCAUUCUCAAAAGUCCGAGGUGAAAUCCGAGGAGUUAGUGGUUGAAAAAUCCUUAAAGCUUGAUGCCCUAAACCUUGAUUGGUUGGGAGUCAUCGAUGGACCCCCGUUACAUGGACAAUUUAGAAAAGAAUGCCUUUAAGCUUUGCACUCCUACAGGAAAAAAAUUGUGAAAGAAAAGAGGUGUGUUCUUAGCCUAUUGGAGGUUGAUUAGUUUGCUAAGCUUUGAAAAGAACUAGGUUGAGGGGAGAGAUUAGUUUGACAUACUAUAUCCGGAAACUAAUAAAUAACACAUAGAUUUUUGUGGAAGAGUAGGGUUGGACCUUUAGGAGUGGAAAUUAUUUUGAAGCUUAAAUUUGCAUAAUGCCUACUCUUUAUGAAUUGUGACUAGGCAAAUUAUUUGAUAGCUCCUAUUGAAGUUUGAGUUUUAUUUCUUUCAUGUUCCAUGUGAGAGUUUGAUCCAAUCAUGCCACUUGAUUAUUUUUUGGAGUGAUCAACAUGAUUUUAUAAAUUAUUAUAUUAUCUAUUUUUCUUUCUUUCUUUUUCUCUCCUUCAUUGCUUAGGGACUAGCAAUGUGUCAGUUGGGGGGAGUGAUUACUACCCAAAAAGUGCUAUUUUGCGCCUUUAAUUCAUUAUGUUUUAAGCACUUUUGUGUAGUAGUUCUCCAUUUUUAUUCCAAUUGGCAUGUUAAGGACCUAGCAAUGACUUCUAAUCAUAUUUGUGGCUAGUUUUAGUGUUUUGACAGCUUUUUGGAUCAUUAAGACAAGCCAAGUAAAGGAGAGAAGCAAAGAGGAAAACAGAGUGGAGAAAACAGAGGAUAGCAGCUGCAGUCUUCCUUCGCACUUUUGGAGCACUUCUUGAAGUCUAUUUGCUACAUGCUAUAUACCAUUUCAAAGCUCAGGAAGUCAAGAAUCCAACUCUUCAAACCGUGUACGAUUUGGAGCUGAAAUGAGGAAGAUAUGGCCUUCGGAAGACAACUGCACCAAGCAUGUGCGAAUUUCGCACAACAGCCCAAGCUUGUGCGAAAUUCGUACAACACCUUCCCCUUGUGCAAAAUUCGCACCAGCCCAUGCGUGGUGCGAAAUCUCCUCUAUUCUGCCGACUCCACGUGAGAUCUUUUCUUUUAGAUAUUUUUGUAUAAAUUUCCAUUCUUCUCCUUGUAAUCCACCAACCAUAAGAUUUCUUAGCUAGGAAGGUUGGAAAAACUUCUCUAUAUAUAUUCCCUUGCAUCCAUUGUAAUAGAUAUAGAAGUAUGUAAUAUAGAUAUAUAAAUAUAUAGAAUAUACAGAGCCUUGCUUUUUUUUUCCUUCUCUUUUAUUUUUCUUUUUCUUGAAAGCCAAACAACCUCUGAGGAUGUUCUCCUAGAGGAUGAGAGGCUAAACUUUUGGUUUCUUGGAGUGAAGGAAGCUAGGUGAAAAGUCCAGAUGCAAAGGUGGAAAACUCUCGUGCAUUAAAUACAGGUAGUUGGAGUUCAUAAAUGGCUUUUAAAUCUAAAGUUUUGCUUUAAAUCCCUUAGAAUCACUUUGAAUGGCCAAUACAUGAUAAGCUUCAGGUCUCUGUGGAUACUUAUUGCUAGAUCCACAUCAGUCCAUUAGUUAUCAUGUACAAGCCAUUGGAAAGUGGCUCAAGGUGAAGACCCAUAGUGUCUAAAGCCAUUAAUGGAACAUGACUACCAUUUCUAUUGACUUUUUAUGGAUUAAAUCUUCAUUGUUAAACCUAUACCGGUUCGGGAAACAACCAUCUUUUAUGUUGUUGUCCCCAAUGCGAGAAGAAGAAUCCGAAAUUUCCACUUUGCAUUCUGAACUUGAUCCUAGCAACCUUAGCUUCGGGAGACUUUCUUUCUUCCAUUUUUACCUAGUUUUAUGUUAGUUUAUUUUCAAACACCACUUUGAAAACAAAUAUUAUUUUCUUUUAAACUUAAAGUUUUUGACAAAGGAAAUCAUCAGAUUCAAUCUCUAAUCUUGAGUCUAUCACUGGUAGAGUGAAAACCCAUCCUAGAGUUCGACCCUAGAGCUGCUAUACUAUAGUAGCUUUGCUACGCUAGUAUGAGGUCAUAGGAUUUAUAAAUGUUUUUUAUGAAAAGACCCGACUGGGCACGAAUCAGCUACUAUAGCAUUGUGGCUCUAGGAUCGUUCAUUGGGAUGGGUUUUCACUUCACAAUUGAUAUUAAUUCAAAACUGAAUUAGUGCCUUUUCAUUUCAAGGUUAGCUUUAAAAGAAAACAUAAAGAUUUUUGAAACUAAACUAACAUAGAACUAGGUAAAAAUGGAAGAAAGAAAGUCUCCCGGAGCUAAAGGUUGCUAGGAUCAAGUUCAGAAUGCAAAGUGGGAAAUUCCGGAUUGUUCUCCUCGCAUUGGGGACAACAACAUAAAGGAUGGUUGUUUCCCGAACCGGUAGAGGUUUAACAAUGAAGAUUUAAUCCAUAAAAAGUCAAUAGAAAUUAGUCAAGUUCCAUUAAUGGCUUUAGACAUUAUGGGUCUUCACCUUGAGUCACUUUCCAAUGGCUCGUAUAUGAUAACUAAUGAUCUGAUGUGGAUCUAGCAAUAAGUAUCCCCAUAGACCUAAAAGCUUACCAUUUAUUGGCCAUUCAAAGUGAUUCUAAGGGGUUUAAAGCAAAACUUUAGAUUUAAAAGCCAUUUAUAAACUCCAACUACCUGUAUUUAAAGCACGAGAAUUUUCCACUUUUUCAUCCGGACUUUUCACCUAGCUUCCCUUAGUCCAAGAAACCAAAGGUUUAGCCUCUCAUCCUCUGGGAAAACAUCCUUAGAGGUUGUUUGGCUAGUAAGAAAAUAUAAUCAAAAUGAGAAGGUAAAAGCAAAGCAAAGCUCUGUAUUUUUCUUCCUUUCAAAAUUGUACAAAGGAUUGAUCGAUAAUAUAUUCGAUAUCUUGUGUAAAGGAAAUUACAAACUAUAUAUAAGGGUUUAUUCACCCUUUUUCCAAACUUAAUAACUAAGGAAUCCUAUCAUUGGUGGGUUACAAGGAGACUUUGGGAAUUUAGACAUAAAAUGUCUAAAGCAAAAUAUCUUAAAAUAUCCCAAAAUAUUGGUGGCAAAUAUCAGGAAGCUUCAGGAGAACACAGCAGCACUGUGCAGAAUGGUUGCUCUCCCAUCCGGGUAGGCGGUUAUCAAAUGAUCCGGAUACGUCCAUCUGGAAAAGUUGAAACACCUACAUCUCCUAUCCGGCUCCUGAAUUCCAGAAGUGAACAUUCGGGGUGGAAAGUGCGCGGCAACCGGAUGCAAUGGCAGCAGCCGGGUGCAAACGGCGGCGCACAUCCGGGUGCAAAUGGUGGCGCACAUCCGGGUGCAACUCCUAUCUGGUGGUGUGGUCCGGACGCCCUCCAAUGGUGUAUCCGGACGCUCUGUCCAGGUAUACUCCUUGCAUGGAUUCCAAAGAAGUCUCCUCAAUCUCAUAUUGCUUUGGUGAUAAAAAAGCUAUCAAAACACCAAAACUUAACACAUUUUUUAUUAGAAUUGAUUGCAAGGGUCCUUAACAUGCCAAUUGAGUUAAAAGGUGAUAACUACUACUCAAAAGUGUUUAAAAGAGUUAAUUACCAGCUAUGAAAUAACACUUUUUGAUCCUAGUUCAGCUGGCCCGGAUCCCAUAUGAAGUUUGCAUCCCUCACUUGAGAUUUGCUUUGUAUGAUUUUGCCAUACAAAGCUUGGGGGAAAAGUGGAUGCAUGUGUUUCUUCCUUGAUGACUAUCCUUUUUGGUUUUUCUUUUAUACAAUCAUCUUUCUCUGUACUUUUCCCCUUUCUCUUUCCUUUUAUUUUCUCCCUCUUUUCUUUCUCUGUUUCACUCUCUUCUUUGUGGUCUAGCUUGCAUGCGGGUAGAUCAACCUCUUUAUCACUCUCCUUAGCCUCUAUUUCAAGGAUACCCUUUUGAUUUUGAUGAGGUUGAGAAGGAAAGUUUUCUUUCUCUUGCAUUGCGUUGAGGUUGGCAAACCUUGAGCUUGAGUAUUCGAAAUUGUCUGUCUUCUGAGACAGGUCAUUGAACCUCUCAUCCAUCCUAUCAAUUCUUUGACUGAGCUGAGCAUUGAUGGAUUUUUUAGCUUCAACAAAGUCUUCCAUGACCUUGUUAAGAUUCAUCAUAGCUUGUUCAAGGUUUGAGGCUUGCUGUGGUGCUUGAGCAGGUUGCUGAUACUGAGGUGGUUGUGGUUUCCAAGAGAAAUUUGGAUGAUUCCUACAAUUUGAAUUGUAGGUGUUAUAAUCACCAAAUAUCUCUUUCGCCACUGGAAUGAUAAGACACUCCUCCACCAAGUGCUCAAAAGAUUGACAAAUGGCACACGACAUAGCUUGCACUAGUGUUUUAGAAAUGGCAUGCACAACUAGCAAUUUGUGAAUUAAAAACAGAGAAAACAAAAGAAAAUAAAAGAAAAUAAAAUUCUAAAGAAAAUUAUUAAGAUUAACUAAAAACUAAAUAAAAAAUAUACUAAAACAUGAAUAAAGAAAAAUAAAAUAAAAAGAGUUAGUAAAAGGAAAAGAAAAUUCACCAAACUUGUGAUGAAGAUCACAAGUACUCUGAAAAGGUCAUAUCACUGUAAAGUGGCACCAUCCCCGGCAGCGGCGCCAUUUGAUUCAUGCCCAAUCGGUGUCUCAGCUAAUUCGUGUCCAGCUGGUAUCCUUGAUUGCGGGAGUAAUCAACAAAAUUUAUAACCUAUAACACCAUGAACUAGGGUAGCAAAGACAAAGCUACUAUAGCAUAGUGGCUCUAGGAUCGUUCACUGAGAUGGGUUUUCACUUCACAAUUGAUAUUAAUUCAAAGCUGAAUUGGUGCCUUUUCAUUUCAAGGUCAAGUUUAAAAGAAAACAUAAAGAUGUUUGAAACUAAACUAACAUAGAACUAGGUAAAAAUGGAAGAAAGAAAGUCUCCCGGAGCUAAAGGUUGCUAGGAUCAAGUUCAGAAUGCAAAGUGGGAAAUUCCGGAUUGUUCUCCUCGCAUUGGGGACAACAACAUAAAGGAUGGUUGUUUCCCGAACCGGUAUAGGUUUAACAAUGAAGAUUUAAUCCAUAAAAAGUCAAUAGAAAUUAGUCAAGUUCCAUUAAUGGCUUUAAACACUAUGGGUCUUCACCUUGAGUCACUUUCCAAUGGCUCGUAUAUGAUAACUAAUGAUCUGAUGUGGAUCUAGCAAUAAGUAUCCCCAGAGACCUAAAAGCUUGCCAUGUAUUGGCCAUUCAAAGUGAUUCUAAGGGGUUUAAAGCAAAAAUUUAGAUUUAAAAGCCAUUUAUAAACUCCAACUACCUGUAUUUAAAGCACGAGAAUUUUCCACUUUUUCAUCCGAACUUUUCACCUAGCUUCCCUUAGUCUAAGAAACCAAAGGUUUAGCCUCUCAUCCUCUGGGAAAACAUCCUCAGAGGUUGUUUGGCUAGUAAGAAAAUAUAAUCAAAAUGAGAAGGUAAAAGCAGAGCAAAGCUCUGUAUUUUUCUUCCUUUCAAAACUGUACAAAGGAUUGGUCGAUAAUAUAUUCGAUAUCUUGUGUAAAGGAAAUUACAAACUAUAUAUAAGGGUUUAUUCACCCUUUUUCCAAACUUAAUAACUAAGAAAUCCUAUCAUUGGUGGGUUACAAGGAGACUUUGGGAAUUUAGACAUAAAAUGUCUAAAGUAAAAUAUCUCAAAAUAUCCCAAAAUAUCGGUGGCAAAUAUCAGGAAGCUUCAGGAGAACACAGCAGCACUGUGCAGAAUGGCUGCUCUCCCAUCCAGGUAGGCGGAUAUCAGAUGAUCCGGAUACGUCCAUCUGGAAAAGUUGAAACACCUACAUCUCCCAUCCGGCUCCUGAAUUCCAGACGUGAACAUCCGGGGUGGAAAGUGCAUGGCAGCCGGAUGCAAUGGCAGCAGCCGGGUGCAAACGGCGGCGCACAUCCGGGUGCAACUCCUAUCUGGUGGUGUGGUCCGGACGCCCUCCGAUGGUGUAUCCGGACGCUCUAUCCGGGUAUACUCCUUGCAUGGAUUCCAAAAAACUCUCCUCAAUCUCAUAUUGCUUUGGUGAUAAAAAAGCUAUCAAAACACCAAAACUUAACACAUUUUUUAUUAGAAUUGAUUGCAAUGGUCCUUAACAUGCCAAUUGAGUUAAAAGGUGAUAACUACUACUCAAAAGUGUUUAAAAGAGUUAAUUACCAGCUAUGAAAUAACACUUUUUGAGUAGUUAUCAAUUGUCCACAAUGAUGGGUUUUCGUUAUACACUUGACAUUAAUGAAAUGAGAAAUGGUGAUUUCCUUUUUGAAAGUUAGUUUUUAAUGAAAAUAAUAUUGAUUGGAAGGGUUGAUUUUAAGUUAAGCAAACAUAAACAACUGAAAUUACUACAAAGAGAAAGUCUCUUGGAGCUAUAGGUUACUAGGAUCAUGUUCCUAUUGCAAAGUGGGAAAUUCCGGAUCUUCUCCUCGCAUUGGGGACAAUAACAUAAAGGAUGGUUAUCUCCCAAACCGGAUUUGUAUUUAGCAAAUAAGUUUUGAUCCAAAGGGUUCUUGAAAAAUGGUAGUUGCUUCCCAUUAAUGGCUUCAAACACUAAAGACCCUCACCUUGAACCACCUUCCAAUGGCUCGUACUUGAUAACUAAUGGACAUUCAUGGAUCUAGCAAUAAGCAUCCAUAGAAUCCUAAAAGCUUACCAAGUAUUGGCCAUUCAAGGUGAUUCUAAGGGAUUAAAGCUGAAACUUGAAAUACAAACCAUUAAUGUUACACAACUACCUUCAUUUAAAGCAAGGAAAACUCCCACAUUUGCAUCUGGGUCCUUUACCUAGCUCCCAUCACUCCAAGAAACGUGAAACUUAGCCACUCAUCCUCUGAGAAAUCAUCCUCAAAGGGUGUUUGGCUAGAGAGAAUAUGAAGAGAAAAUGAGAAGGAAAGGUAGAGAAAAACUCCCGUAUAUUUUCUUCAAAACCCGACUUUACAAAAUAUAAAAAACAUCAAGCAUCCUUUGAGAGGUUUUCCAACCCUUAUUUAUAGUUCGUAAACAAACCCUAAUGUCAUUUAUCUAUUACAAAGGAGUAAAAAGGAAAAAUUACAAUUCUGGAGAAAAAUCCCAAAAGUUGGUGCGCACAAAGUGAUUUUGGCACACCCUACCAAAUUUUGGCACAUCCUGCCAAAUUUUGGCACAUCCUGCCAAAUUGAUGAUUUUGCCUUGCAAAAUGCUCUGUUUUCCUCCAUCUUACUACUGAUAGUUUUGGCAAGAAUAGAGAAGUCAAGUAAUGGGUACAUUUCCUCAAUCAAUAGAAGCAAGACACACUAUAACUCAUAUGGCAUAAACUUCAUUCAAACCAAGUUUUCCAAACUCAAAUUUCAAAAUUUUGAAGGUGAGAAUUGGGAAUUAGGAAAAAGUAGGUGUGGACCCCGCAUUUCGCUUUGCUCGAAUGCGUUUCCCACUCGAAUGGCGAGCUCGAUUUUUAUUUUUUUUGAAAAUGAUUUUUAUUCAUUAAAAAUUGACUUGGAGUCGCCACUUAUUUUUGUUUUAUUUUUAAAGGGUAAACAAAAUAAGAAAGAAAAACCCUAAGUGUGACUCCUUAUUUUGGAAAAGGCGGUCUGUGAAAAACCGGAUCGGGUUCGGGGGUCAGGUUACUUAUCGGGAAGGUACGGUAAAGACCGUAGCACCCCUCUAAGUCCCUAAAGUCGGGUCUCUACUAAUAAGAUGAAACUGACAUGGCAAUCAAUGAGAAUCGAUGAAUAGUCAAAUCAAUCAUGCACAAUAUGAGAAGCGAAGCAUGUAUAAAGAAUGAGCGAAAUAUGAAUAGAUGCGUACCUGGAUGGCAAUCACGAAUGUGCUAUCAUGAAACAUGGUUAGUGAACAAUGAACAAAUAUAGUUAAGCGCAUAUCAAGGAAUAGAGUAAAUCAAUCAUGCAUGACAAAUAAAUAAAUCAAUCAGUCAAUCCAUCAUGAAGUCUCAUAUGUAGGGCCCCCACCAAAGCCCAAUUCAUUUUUGCAUGAAUUAAUACCAUAAAUUCCCUUGCUUGGAAUUACGGAAUUUUAUUCUAGCUUAUUUUAAAACAUUUUGAAAAUUUGAGGAGUUGUGAAAAUUGCUUAUCAGAAGAAAAAGUGGAGGCAAAAAUUUAUUAAAAAUAGGAUUUUUGUGUAACCUAGGGAAAAUGCUAAGGAUGAAAAGUUGGAAUAUUUGAAGUUAUUUAAUCGACCAAAACUUGGAAAACUACUUUGAAAACAGAGGUUUGAGGAAUUAUUUUAAAAUAAAAUAUGAUGAAAUAACAAAAAAAAAAUAAAAAAAUGGCACGUGGUCUAAUUGCCUGCUUUUUUAUUUCAUAAUAGUGACUCCAAACCCCACGCCUCUCAAGCUCACAAACUUGUCAUCUUCUCAAUCAGCAAAUGGCCUGUCUGCCAAGGCUGGCAUGUCACAAACGAUGCGUCCUGCAGCCAACAGUGUUUCAAGAACAGCAGCUUAGUGAUCAACAUGGAAAAUCUGACACGGCUCCCAGGUCAAAUUUGGUUUAGAACGAGUCCUCAAGCUGUUUCUCCCUGCAAUACUGGACCAUAAAUUUGUGACGAGAGUCCUGAAGUGACCUUUCCCAGCAAUAUGUUCCCAAAAGUGAGGGUUACUCUCCACAUGUUUAUCAGGACUCGAAACAUCCACACUACUGGUGCUCAUGUCGUUACGUACAAUGCACAGCUUUCCAUUAAGGGGGACAAGAGCAGCAGCCUCUAGAACUCGGGAGCUCCCCAGAUGGAGCUUGCUAUCUAUGAAUUUGUUCCAUGAAUCUGUGUCACUGUCAUAGACCCUGAGCUUGCACCCACCCUGGCAGUCCAAGGCGUAGAGCUGUCCAUUCAAAGAGAUGCUAGGGUUGCGCCAACCAGCAACCAUUCCAUCACUGAUUGGGGUCCAAGUAUUGGUUUCAGGAAUAUAAGCUUCACUCAUGACCUCACGGUGGGAUCCAAGUCCUUUUAGGAACCAUUUUCCAUUUAUAGAUUACUCCGAUAAAGGGCACCAUAGCCGAGCUCAUAUCUGAAAUAAAGCUCCACCUAUUCCUGUUAGGAUCAUAGACUUCAGCUGAACGGAGAGUCUUCUGAAUUCCUUCACAUUCGGAGCAUGCCAACUAAGGAGUUGAACGAAGUGGGCCCACAAUUCUUUAUCAAAACGAGGCUCAACAGUUUCUUUAUUGUUGGAAUCCUUGAGCCGACUAGGAUCCUCAUUGCAUACCUUCAGGUUCUGACGCCUUUCCAAGCAACCAUGCAUAUUUACUUCGAUCACACUGGUGAAUAGAAAGAGUUAUCUUCGUGUAAGCAUGCUAAAAAAACAUCGGUGUGCACUGUCGAAUGCUUCGAGCAUUGAGCUAUAUGUUUACAAAUCUGACAUGAGGGAAAUACUGCCACCAUCCAUGCAUAUACUAGAAGCAAAAAGUAGCAUCAUCGGAGACUAUAGAUAGACACUUGGCGGCCAAAUCUGGAGGGCAGUCUGAAUAUGAAGCAUGUAGUCCCCAAAUGAGCUUUUCGAGCUCCUCAUACCAUGAAGAAGAAUUUUUAGAAGGUGGUGAAGGGAAGGAUAAUGGAUAUGAGAAGGUCUUAGAGUGAGAAAAUGGGUUUGACGGAUGUUUUGAUGGGUAAUGAAGGCUGCCAUGCAUAUGAGAGAGUAUGAGACACGGGCAUGAAACAAUGGAUUUGAUGGAUAUGGGAUGCAUGCAUGAGGUGGAUGACAGAGGAUGAGAUGGACGGGUUUGAUGGGUACGUAGAAAUAAAAUAAUGGGUAUGAAAGGGUAGAGAGAGAAAAGAUGAUAGGAAAUGGGUGUGAAGAGUGGAAUAGAGAGAGAAAGUGAGGUGGUGAGAAAAAUGUAAGGGUGUAGGGAUAUGGGUCUAGAUAUGAGUGUAGGGAGAUGGUUUGUGGGUAUGAAAAGAAUGGGUACGAAGGACGGGUAUAGUGGGGUGUGGUUCAAUGAUGUUGUGCAUGGGCUUGUGCUCAGUUUCGCUACCGAUCCUGGAUUCAUCCCAUUGUUGAAGCAUGAAAUUAGUGGAGUAGCGUAGUGGCUGCGUCUUAGCAAGAUGCUUCACGGUGUCUUCUCCAGCUGUAGCCAAAACGCGUCAGCUGCUUCCACCCAAAACCUGAUAUGCUGAGAAGUUUCUGUCUAUUAUUGGAUUCGGUAUCUGAUUCGUCAAUCGUUGUGAUCUUCUCUUCUUCAAACUUGAUGCAUGGAUGCCAAAUUGCUCCAACAUUCUUUGAUAUACAUAUAGUUGGUAUCAGCCUUUGUCCUACUGUUGGGAGCAAGGACAUGAACCCUAGCAGCAUUAACUCUAACUUGACCUUUUCCAGCGCUUCAUAUAGAGCUCUCCUGUGUAACCUCAGAUUGCAAGGUAACCUCAGAGUUUUGUACAUCACAACCAGGAAUUCCAGCAGCGGAAUUAUUGCCAUAGCCUCUGACACUGACAUCAAAUUCCUGUCUCAUAUUCCACAAAUACUAAGACAAAGCUUUCAAAGAAUCCGGAAUCAUUGGUGGCUGUAGUUGCUCCAAAGUAACAUCAUUUGGAAGCAAAGAAGCACCAUUGAGAGAAUCAGAUUGAUUAAUUGUAACAGCUUGGUUAAGUUGUUGUUCGCUAGAGUCUCUCAAACCACUUAAACCAUAAGUUCCUAUGCCUUUCUCUGAGACAGGAUCCCAAAUUUUUGAGGAGGAUUUAUCUUCAUGUGAAGAAGAAACAGGGCAUGUAGCAUCAGUGAAGUCCCUAAACCAUACAAGCCCAUCCUCUGUACCACAGCUAGUAGUGAUAACUCUUUGCAUCGUCCUCAAAUCAAUUGUGGAAACAGAGGAACCAGCAGCAACAAAAAACAAUGAUUCAUAACAUCUCAUGUCCAUAGGUGCAUCAAGAACAGAAGUCAUUCCCACACAACAUAAAGAAUGGACAGUAGAUGAUGUAGUUGUAUUCCAAACUCUCACCUUAGAAUCUUUCGAAAUUGUCACUCGAAGAGAAGUUUUAUGCCCAGUAACUGUCAUCAAUUUUACAGGUUUCGCAUGCCCAUAAAGAGUUGCCUUUAAAGCCUGAUAGCCACGUUAACCACUUGAGCUAAGGAACCAAAGUCAAACUGUACCAUCUUAUCCUCCACUUGCAAAUACUUUGCCACUACCAUCACCCAGCAAUUUAUCUCAAAGAGUGGAAACUGGGCCAUUAUGAUUUCUAAAACACCGCUGGCAAGAACCCUUCCACCAUAGACGAAUGGAGUGGUCACAGCUUGAGAUUACCGAAACAUUUUCUUCUCGUUGUGUCUCACUUCGAAAUAAAGAUGUUUCACUAAGCGGAAAUAAUCUGCUAAAUGAUCAAUUCCAUAUUCUUUGUCAUUCACAUCAUGGGAAGCCCAGAAACGAAUUAUUAAUUACUUCUGGUCCAAAUUGGGAGACGAAUUCAGGCAGCCCUAGCAGGAGCCCACGACUUUCAGACAAGCUGAUGGUAUCUUCUGGGGUCACUCUAUCAGCACAUGGAACCUUCUUAGUCAAGGAUGCUACUGCUACUGCCAAUUUGGCUCCGCUUCUUGGCCGUGGCUAUGGACCUUUGGCUGAACUUCAAAACGUCAUUGACAAGACUGAAGCUGCCGAAUCACUUAGAUGUUCUCGUGAUCAAUUCUCCUCUUAGAUGUCAACCAAACUUUGAGAAUAUGUAUCCCUUGUAAGGAUUCACAACUAGCCUUGAUUUCUCUCUCUCUCACAGCCAAUGUAUUGAACGAGAUCCCAAAAGCAAAAGGCAAUCACCACAGAGAAAGAAACAAUAGAAACAGAGCAUAAAAAAAACAAAGUAAAAACAUCCUCAAAUGAGGCUUCACUGCAUGAGUCAUCAGCAAGCCCUCUGAUUAAGUGAGAAAAACCACAUCAAAUAUGACUAUUGGCAUGAUUCCUAGGUAUUUCGCAAUAGAGGCAAGGUGCAUUAAGAUCAACAAUGGCAAACAUGAGUUCAAGAUUAUAUAUCAACAAGCAACAAGUGGCCUUCAUCAUCCACUCCAAGCAAACCAACAAAUAUCCAGAUAUUAACAAGAAAUGCAGAGGAGUAAUAAGAAUCCAAACCAAACAAGAAAUCAGCUGCAUUCAUACCUGAGAGAACCCUUUUCCGGUAAGGCUCUGUUCAGCUCUAAACGCCUUAAGUCCUCCUCCAAUGCCGAUGAAACCAGCAAGCUUACCUCCCUAUCACUCUCUCACCAGCAGCCUCUAAAUCAACUCUCAGCAGUCUUCUCCCUCUGGUUUUCUCUCUGAGCUCCUCUCAAUCUCUAGCUAAGCAAUCCCUCAAAAAUAUCUCUCUCUAAGCUCUCCAAAAACUCACCUCUCUGCUCCAACCUCAAACCUCCCUCCUACAGUAAUAAAAAACUCCCCUCCCUAGCUUACCUUCCUUCCUCUCUGGUUCUCUCCCUCUCAAGUUCCCCUUCUCUCAAGAAAACUCUCACAGUAGUCUAUCCGCCCUCCCCUCCAGUUGCUCUCUCUCCUUUUCUCUGCCGAGAACCCUCCAAAAGCAGCCUGCUGUCCAAAAUAUCUCCUAACCAACUCUGAAAAGCACCACCUGCCAGAGACGCCCCUCUCACAGCAACGUACCUCCUCUGCAUAUCCUCCUCCAGGUGUCAACCUCUGAUUAGUCCAUCAAUUCCACUAUUUUGAUAACCAACUCUGAAAAGCACCACCUGCCAGAGACGCCCCUCUCACAGCAACGUACCUCCUCUGCAUAUCCUCCUCCAGGUGUCAACCUCUGAUUAGUCCAUCAAUUCCACUAUUUUGAUCCCAUAUUGACUAAUCCGGGAGUGACACGUGGCCAUGCAAGAUGGUGACACUUGUCAAGCAUCAGCUGCAAGAAUCACUCCCAAAAUGGGGGUCUACAGUAGGAUUGGCUUCCUUACAUUUAAAAGGAAGGGCCUUAGAAAGGUUUCAAGGGUAUGAGGCUAUUAACAAGGAAAUCAAAUGGACACAAUUUUAUAUAGAUGUUGUUUCUAGGUUUAGCCCUAGUGUUAAUGAUAACCUUAUGGGGUAAACAACCAAAUUGAAAUAGGUUUCUACAGUUAUGGCAUACAAAAAUUAGUUUAAGGUAUUGAUGACCAAAACUAGUGGGUUUUUGAUUCAUGCCCAGUCGGGUGUUUAUCAAAACAUUUAUAAAACCUACAACACCUUAUACUAGGGUAGCAAAGACAAAGCUACUAUAGUAUAGUGGCUCUAUGAUCGUCCACAGGGAUGAGUUUUCUUUGUACACAUGACAUUACUGAAAGGAGAAAUGGUGAUUUCCUUUUGAAAGUUUGUUUUUAAUGAAAAUAAGAUUGAUUGGAAGGGUUGAUUUUAAUUUAAGCAAACAUAAACAACUUAAAUUAUUACAAAGAGAAAGUCUCUUGGAGUUAUAGGUUACUAGGAUCAGGUUCCUGUUGUAAAGUGGGAAAUUCCGAAUCUUCUCCUCGCACUGGGGACAAUAACAUGAAGGAUGGUUAUCUCCCCAACCAAAUUUGUAUUUAGCAAAUAAGUUUUGAUCCAAAGGGUUCUUGAAAAAUGGUAGUUGCUUCCCAUUAAUGGCUUUAAACACUAAAGACCCUCACCUUGAACCACCUUCCAAUGGCUCGUACUUGAUAACUAAUGGACAUCCAUGGAUCUAGCAAUAAGUAUCCAUAGAAUCCUAAAAGCUUACCAAGUAUUGGCCAUUCAAGGUGAUUUUAAGGGAUUAAAGCUGAAACUUGAAAUACAAACCAUUAAUGAUACAUAACUACCUUCAUUUAAAGCAAGGAAAACUCCCACCUUUGCAUCCGAGUCCUUUACCUAGCUUCCAUCACUCCAAGAAACGUGAAACGUAGCCACUCAUCCCCUGAGAAAUCAUCCUCAGAGGAUGUUUGGCUCUAGAGAGAAUGUGAAGAGAAAAUGAGAAGGAAAGGCAAAGAAAAACCAGGCUUUAUAAAAUAUCGAAAACAUAAUAUCUCCUCCUCCUCUGAGAGGUUUUCCAACCCUUAUUUAUAGUUCCUAAACAAACCGUAAUGUCUUUUAUCUAUUAUAAAAGGAGUAAAAAAGAAAAUUUACAAUUCUGUAGAAAAAUCUCGAAGCUCGGUGCGCAUAAAGUGAUUUUCGCACACCCUGCGAAAUUUUGGGACACCUUGCGAAAGUUUGGCACACCCUGCCAAAUUUUGGCACAUCUUGCGAAAUAGAUGAUUUUGCCUUGCGAAAUAGAUGUUUUCCUCCAUCUUACUACUGAUAGUUUUGGCAACCCCUUUCCAAGUUUGGCAAGGGGUUUUGAAGUGCUCCAAAACUCGGAUUCUUCAUGUGAUUGAUCUUCAACUUGCCUUACCAUAGCUUGCACAAAACUCUCCCUCAAUUUUGGCCUGUUUCAAUGAUCAAAAAGCUACCAAAAACACUAAAACUGACCAAAAAUUGGUUAGUAACAUUUGCUAGGUCCUUAACAUGCCAAUUGGGAUAAAAAGGUCUAACUACUACUCAAAAGUGCUUAAUACAAUUAAGUUUAAGCUUAUAAAAAUGCACUUUUUGAGUAGUAAUCAAUCUACAUGCAUUUUUUUAGAUCAAACAAUAACUGCAUGGUUUGUCUCAAGGUUCUCUCGAUAUUAAUACUUAUUAUACCAGUUUAAAAAUUCUUUGGGAUGAACUUAAGAUGUUUGAACCCAUUUCCCGUUUGGCAAUUUGGUGGCAUCAAAAUAUGGAUGGAUUAUCAAUAGCAUAAGUAUGUAAUGCAAUUUUUUAAGGGCUUGAAUGAAUCCUAUGUCGUGAUGAGUGGGUAGAUUUUGAUGUUUGGCCCAUUACCCUCUGUUGCGAAGGUUUUCAAUCUCGUCGUUUAAGAAGAACAAUAAUGCACCAUCGAAUCUAGUUCCCUUGCUCUGUUUGAAUCUUUGGCAUUUAGUGCCUCCUCGUCAUCUCUCUCUGUUGCAAAUUUCUCUUCUUAGGGUAAGCUCAAUCAUGAUCACCCGAUUUGUUCUCAUUGUGGGCUCAUGGGGUAUAUUGUGAAUUGUUGCUACAAGUUACAUGGGUACCCAAUUGGGUAUAAGCCCAAACCCAAGGCCCAAUUGAGCUCUCUUCAGCCCACCAACAAUCCAUUAUCUUUCCUUAAGCCAUCAAAAGACACCCACUUCUCUCAUUUAGCUACAACUGCCAUACCAUCCUCUCCACUUUCUAGUUCUCUCUCAAUAGAUCAAGUUCAAUAGCUCAUAAAGUAGACUUUAUUCACUUUGGAAUAAUCCUUUGUCAUGAUCAAAUCUUAUUAUCCACAUGCCUUGUUUGACUAAGAUCAUUAUAAUUGUUUCCCAAAGUGAGUCAAUGCCAAAUAUUGAAUAAUUGGUUAAGCAUAACUCUUACACACAUUCUAAGAUUUAUGCUCUUAACUUUAUGUGACUUGCUUGCAACAUUUGGAAAUACCCCUAAAGUGGAUACAAAGGUAGCCAUGAAUGAAAAAAAAAAAUCAAUAUUGAUCAAAGUGUACAAUAGCUUUACUUUCAAAAGAAAAAAAAAGUAAAAAAAAAAAAAGAACUAUGAUAUCAAAUUAAGGGGAAGUCAAGUUGUGUUGUAUAUAAAUCAACAAGACCGUGUUAAAUAAAAAUCCAACAAUCUUAGAUCAAAUUAAUUGGAUGUGUACUUUAAUUAGAACAAAGGUAUGAUUGGAACUCUUCUAAGUGAUCAAUUUUGAAAUAUAGAACUAGACAAUAAGUUGUAUUCCCUUGAACAUCAAUACUUAUGUAUCUAUGUUGACCUUCUUAUCUACUAAUGGUUAUGCACUAGAUUUUGAAAUUGAAAUUACAAUUAACUCUAACCUUUUGGACUUGAAACCUCAAUCUUGAUGGAUUGAUGUAUAAUAUCUAUAGUAACUCGCUUUAUAAUUGAUUAAAGUAACUCCUGCAAGCUAUUUAAAGCCAUCCAGUACAUUAUUUCUUAUUUCUCACUUUUCUGAGUUGUUUCAAUCACUCCAUGUUUCCACUUCUUCGUCAUUUGAGGUCAAUUCUCUUAGUUUUUCGUAUUUUUGUUCAUAUAAUAUUUUUUACACCUCAUUUUUAGUAUUCUUAGAUGUUUAGGGGUUUUUUUUUUUUGGAUUUUCAUCAAUUUUUCUUACUUUUAUUGUCCUUUUAUAUUUCAUCCUCUUGUUAUGGAAAGUCGUCAUCAUCCGUAUGAGGUGACCCCUCUAAGGUCGCCUGAGCUCAUUUAAAGCAUUGCACUCUAAAGUCCAUUUGACCUAAGAAUUUUUCUUGUUGAGUGCUUCCAUUGUUAGGAGGCAUGAGAUCAAUACUACACCUCUUUCAAUGAUUAACUAGUCGAGGUUGAGCAUCCAGUCAAUCUCAAAGUCUUCUAGGAGACUUCUCUCAUUGCUAUUGUUAGAGUGAGGAUAAGAGACAUUAUUUUCUCUUUAGGGGACUUCUACCCCCAUCAUAUUCACAUGUUUUAUGUGAACAUGCAUUCUCUUGUAAUUGGAGUUACCUUUUAGUUGAUUUUGUAUUAUCAAUCAUUUCUUGUCUCUUCCUGUUCUAUUUGAUGUGUUCUUAGCAUGUUGCGACAUGAGUCUUGCUUUGGGCAGAAGCCAUUCUCUAAGCCAGCGUGGCUACUAGCUACCUUCUUCACCUACUCCUUCUGUCAUUCUACUCAUCGUACCCAUAUUUGUCGGUUGUCUACUCAAUUCAUUCAUGCCAUACUCUCUAGCUACCAAUUUGAUAUCGACUUAAUGAUUUUGGAUAGAAUUACUCCUUCCCAUGAUCCAUAUUUUUGAGAAGGCACCUUUUCCUUUACCCUUCUUAUCUCAUAGAAUUUGGAGGAUGUAGGUUUUGAGAUAAACCCUACAUUAGGGGGUAUAAGAUACAUAUGCCCUCUUGGAAGGGAGCUCCUGGGCUAAGCCUUAUAGCCACAUUUAUGGACCAAUGGCACCUUUAAUCCACCAUGGUCCUCAGGAUAUAGCUCAACAGGCGGCUUAGGAGGCAACAAUAGAGGAGGAUGAGCUCCAAGCUAUGAAGCAAAGUGUAGUUCUUGAGGUAAAUUAUCUUAAGCCUACUUUGAGGACUUGCUCUAGUUGAGGUCAAGCAAAUUCUUCAAGAGCUACUCACAAGCAGUGUUUUAAAUGCCACAAAAUAUCGGGGAUAUUUUGCCAAUAUUUCGGGUAUAGAUGGGGCUCAAUAGAUAAAGAGAAUGAAAUUUUGGGUUAUGCAAAAUUUUGAGUAUUUCCCUCAUUUUUCAUUGAUAUAUCGGCUAUAUGCUGAUAUAAUACCAAUAGAUUAGUUAUAUUGGUCAUUUUUUAGUGCUUUGAUUUCUUUUAGGCCAAAAGGUUUCCCUUUUUUGCCAAAAGGUUUCUCUUUUUUUUCCAAAAGGUUUCCAUUUUUUAUUUUAAGCCGCAUUCUCACACGCACAGCCACACAAUAGUUGUUCGAGAGGAGAAAGGCACCAUCUAUUAAAUAGGCAAUUUUGUUCUCUCAAGUUUAUUGAUAAGUUUAAAAUUCUAAUCAAAUAGGUAAACAAAAUUUACAUUGGUGAGACUUGAACCCGAGUGCACAAGUUUGUCAUGGAAGGACACAACCAUUAAACCAUAUGUGAAUUUGUGGUUUAAAUUGUAUAUAGAAUUAUAUAUAUAAUGUACAUACCUUUUAUACAUUAUAAUAUUUUUAAUAUAUAUUAUAAUAAUAUUUAAUAAAUUAAACCAUUAUAAAUAAGUUAAUUUUAAUUAUCAUAUUAUAUAUUUUGUAUUCCAAUUAAAUACAAGGUAAAUAUAAAUUUUAUAAAUGAAUUUUUUAAUAUAAAAUACUUAUCUAAAUAUCACUUUUUUAUCCCUCAAUAUAUUCAAAUCAAACUAUUAUCAUUCUAAUAUUAUUGUGCUUUUAAAUUAGUAUAUUAUUGCCUACUAUUACAAAUUUAUUACAUAUUACUAUAUAUAUAGUAAUAUGCGUAUUCUUUUUUAUUUUAUCAUUUUUUUUAAGUUUUUCCAAGUAUUUUCAUGAAUUUUGAUUAAUUUGUAUUUCUUCAUUUUUUUUUUCAAAAUAUUCCACCGUUAUUUCCUGAUAUAUCCAUAAAAUCCAAUGAUCAAUAAUUCCAUGAUUAUCGAUAUUUUCAUCUUUGCUCACGAGACAUCUUUUUCUAUAGGCCCGACUACCCGAGAGACAUUGGAUUCCAUGGCUUAUGUCCAUUAGUAGAUGGACUCACAGGAUCUUCACCUUCGUGAGAUCCAAGGAUAACUCCACUAUAUCAUUUCCUAGAUCCACUAUAAAGGCGCCUUGAGCUCUACCUCUCUGUCUUCUUUGGAUGCAUAUAUAUAUAUAUAUGUUGUAUUCUUCUUUCUAUUUAACUCUUUAACUAUUGUGUGCUUUCCAAUGUUUAUAAUUCAUAUGCUUUGCCAUUUUUAUGACAAAAACAGGAGAUCAUUGACCAUAUUUAACUCACUUAAAUAGGGAGAGCGUAGGCAUCAAUAUAAUAGAAAAAAAGAUAAAGAAACUCGUUGACAAAUAGGAGUUAAUAAUUUUUUAAUUAUUUAUUUAAUUCAUUCUUUUGCUCAUUUAAUUCUUAAGGGAAAUUAAUUGAAAUAUUGGAGAAAAUUAAACCUAAGACAUUAGAAGAAAUUCGAUCAACUGUUGAAAGCAUAACUUGGAAGUUUAAGAGAGUUACCUAACACAAAUAUUUAUGUUUGAAUUGUCUUUCUCUUUGGAACUAUUAUGAGUCACGAAAGCUUCUUCUCAUGGUUUUCAUUGUCUAUUUUCUAGUUGGAGAUAGGCCUCUAGGCAUCAUAGUUGAUCUAUUGUGUCUUAUCAAGAUUCUAUUAUGUUCGGUUGAUUUGUAUACAUUUAAAUUCCUCUCGAGCUUUACUUUGUACCUUGGUAUCACUAUAGGGAUAUAUUUCUCUUACAUGUUUUCACAUCCAACUAUCAUGUUCUAUUGCUUUGAUCAUAUCUUAUUUCACACAUUGUUCUACUUUUGUUGUAGUUUUUUUAUGUGUGUAGCUUACAAGAUUGGAAGAUAAGUACUACAAGAUGAUGCAAAGCAUUCCCUUAGUUUAUUUUUAAUUAAGCAUUAAUGUGUGUUAUGUAAACUCCUUUAUAAGAGUUUAGAUCGGUUUAUGUAAUGAUGUUUUGUCACAAGACUGCCAAAGAGUGAAAUAGUUAGGACAUUAAGUCUUGAUUAUAUGUUGGAAAUUUUGUUCAUUUUAAUGUUUGGCCACAAAAGUCUUUUUAGAUAGUGAAUUGCUCUCCAUUGAAGGUCAAAAGUUAUUGUUUGUCUAACCGAGAAUUCACAAGUAUAUCUAAAAAAGUUUGGCUUGUAGUAAGUUAGGCUCCUUUGAGGUAUAAAGAAGAUUGAUAAUUGUUUUGAACUUAAAAUUAAUUUUUAUAAGGUUUUUGAAAAACAGGGGAUGCUUAAGUAGGAAGCAAUGCUCAAGUUGACCACUCAAGUGCCAUACACUGCUUGAAUGCCCAAAGCGCUCAAGCCACUAUCAUAAGCUCGAGCAAUCAUGAAUUUAUAGUUGAGAUUUUUUCAUGCAAAAUUGAUUUGGAAGUCUUCUAAAACCAAACCUUUUGGAGAUUUAUUCCUACAAAUACCUCUUUAUAACCCCUUAAGGGUUAGAGAUUGUUUAAGAGAUUGGUGAGAGAUCUUACAUUCUUUAGGGAGAGUCUCUUAGAGAAAAAGCUUAACGAGCCACACCAUUCCCAAUCUCUCAUUCAAGGAUUCAAUCUUUGAAUCUUGGUUGAAAUGCAUUCACUAGAGUAAUAGGAGGUUGCUACGUUGCGGACAUGGAUCAAGUUUUAAGUAUUAAAGAGUAAGUCUUUAGGGUAAAGUGGCUAAGUAAAUCUAUAUAACUUGAUCUCAUAUAAUGGAUUUAGAUUAUUGGUCUUACACUUCAUGUUCUUUUAUCUCCACAAUUAGUGUGGGGGUUUUCCAUGUGAAAAAUCUCUUGUACCUCAUUUCUUAUUACUUGAUAUCUUAUUUGAACUGCCUACAAUAGAAAUUAUUGGUAUACUAAUAUCUCGUAGGAUAAAAAUUAGGUAUAACAUAUAAAUCUUUAUUUAAAUUUUUUAACAAAUCCAUUUUGCCUCCUUCCCCUAGGUGUUACCUCACUGGACUUAGGGGCUUUUCAAACCAUAAGUUGGUUCAACUUGAGUUGUUCUUUUAUGUUGUUGACCAUCGUUAGAUGAAUCAUUUUGUUGGAUUGCACUUGUUAAUCGAUUUUUUUUUCUCAUAUCCAACUUUUGUUUCUUGUGAUUCCUCCAUCUAAAACCCACCAAUUAUUUUACAUCAUAAUAUAAAGUUUCACCACUUGUUUUGUAUUUUAACCCUAACAAUUCAUGUUCUUUAAAAGUAACAUCUCUACUAAUUAUUGUCUUUCUCAAAUUCAGACACUACAACUUAUACCCCUUCACUUUAGUAGAAUAUCUAAGAAAUAAACAUUUCUUUCUUUGCUCUUGGUUGCAACUUUUUAUCAUUUACAUGUGCAUAUGUUGUUGACCCAAAUACAAUAAGGUGUUCCAUACUUCUUGAGGUGUUUUGAACUUUAUGGAACUUGAAGGUCAUUUGUUAAUCAAGUCACAUCUUGUAUGGAUAUCUUUCACCCAUAACUUUGUAGUUUAUCUUAUAUUUAUCAACAUGCAUCUUACUCUUUCAAGAAUAGUAUGAUUCAUCCUUUUAGUUAAGCCAUUUUGUUGAGAUGUACUCUUCACAGUUCUUGUUGGGAUUGAGCUCUUAAAGGAAACACAUGAUGUAACAAAGUUAGACUUAACUGUCCUCUUGCCAUCCUUUUGGUGUAUUGACAUUGAUUUGAGCAUUUAGCUCAUAUCUCUUACAUUAUUACAUGACUUAGGUCAUUAAGAGUUGCACACAAGAUACAAGUCAUGAGUUCCUCAUAAGUACAUAAGUUGUCCACAAUUGGUUAAUGGAUUUGGGCAAUCCAAUAAAGACUGUAGUGCACCACCUCAUAAUUGAAGGGAUGACUUAUCUUGGCCAUCAAGAUGAGUAUCCCAUGAUGAAAUGAUGAGUGCACUAGUUUAUGUGAUGCACAUUGGACUGGACCUAUGGUGAAUCAUGAUGUAAGGCUAUCAAAUGUCAUGAUUCACCAAGCUAUUAUGCUACAUGGACUCUCAACCUUGAGAGGAUAUUGAGCUUGUGAUGAAAUCAAUAGAAGGCUUUGACCUAUGGGAGAGACCCUAAAGUGGUCAUAUAUCCUUAUAGAUUAGGUCACUAUUAAUGAAGACUAGCGACAAUAGGUAUUCUCAAUAGAGGCACCAUGAUAUCCCAUAGGAUUGAGACGGUGUGUCCCCUUGAGUGAUCUAAAGGACAUGUGAUAAUGAAAUUUGUGGCCAAAGUAAUUCCUUUAGUGGAAUUUGACUUAUGCUCCUUGGAGUUGGAGCUAGAGUAUGUUAGUUAAUCAUAUAAUAGGUUGUGUGCACGAGACGCGCAUAGGUCACAUGCAUGGGAAUUGCAUGAGACGUGCUUAUGGGUAGCAGCAUGAGGAGAAAGACUCUCUAGUUUUUCCAAGUAUGUUCUUCAUCGGAUGGAUUUUGAUUUGGGAACAUCUAAAUCACAAGUAUGAGUUUCAAAUAUCAAGAUCUAUAGUUAUUAAUGGUUUUCAUUGCCAUUUUAUUUCACUAUGAUAGAUUUUCAAAUGCCUAGAGAUAGAUGCAUGCACCCUAUGAGAUCCAAGGUAUUGGAAUGGAGUAUUAAUCUAGGGUUCCGAAGUGAUUAGAAUAGUAAGAUCUAAAGAUUGAACCUAGCACUAAUUAAACAUCUGGUAUUUAGACCUAGGUCAUAUUAAUCUGAAUAAGAUGCAAAGAUUGGCAAAGUCAAGACUCUUUGAUUCCAAAAGAUCUUCCAAUCUAUGAAUUUUAUAUAGAUGGUAAAAUGAUCAAGAGGACUAGAAUUAAGGAAUAUUUGGAGUUAGUGCAUACUAACAUGUAUGGACCUUUUAGUGUCUAUGCAUGGGGAGGGUAUGGGUAUUUCAUCACUUUUAGUAAUGAUUGCUCUAGGUUUGGAUAUGUACAUAGGAAAUCUGAUGCCUUGGAUACAUUCAUUGAAUUUAAGGUGGGAUCGAAUAACCUAUUGGAUAUACAUACCAAGUCAUUUCAAUUAUGUCAAGCUGAUAUGUCUAGUAAGUUUGAUUUUUUUUGUUGGAGCAUAGGAUUAUUUUCUAGUUAUGUUCAUCAAGGUCUCUAUUGCAAAAUGGAGAAGUGGAAAUAAGAUAUCAAACUUGGAUUAACAUAGUAAGAUUGUGGAUAGGCUUCUCCUAUUUUAUCAGAUUAUUUUGGGGAUAUGUCAUAUAGUCUGUGUAAUUACCUUUUUCUUUUUUCUUCGUAAGAGGUGUAUUAGUUUAUAGGAUAUCUAAGAGGAUUUUUGGGUUAUUAGGUUUAUAGUCAAGAUGAUCAAAAAAUAUUUGUGAACAUAAAUGUCCCAUUUUUUAUGAAGAUUAUAUGAUAAGGAAGAAGGCAGGGAGUGACAUAGAUUGGAGGAUAUAUUAGAAUAUAGUUCCACAUUACAUAGGACACUAUGGAUCGAAAGGGUUAAAGACAUACCAUUCUUAUGAUUUCUAGUACACCAGUACUUCAUCAUAGUAAGGAGUUUAUAUCCCACAAAUUAUGAUGAAGCAAUGAGCAGUGUUUAUGCUCACUUAAGGCAAGGACGUGUGAUCAUGAAAUCUAUGAACCCAUUAUAAUUCUUUUAGUGAAAUUUGACAUAUGCUCUUAGUGAUUUAGAGUAUGUAAUUUAAUCACAUAAUAGGAGGAUCUAUAACUCUAAAAUUGUAGAGGUAGUCUUUAAAGACUGAUAACUUUCACCUUGUUAGACUACAAACAACCAAUUCAUGGGAAGAUUGUAUACAAUAGAUAGCAAGUCACGAACUUGAGCACUUGGUGUCUCAUUGUAAUAUACAUAGGGUACCAAAAUAUAGUUAACUCUCUAUAGUGGGAUAUUGAGUCAACUUUAUAAUUGGAUUCUAAGGGAUCUAGUACUGUCCUAUGGGUUCCAUUGGUCUCUACUAAAGCUUAUUUUCCUUGAUAACAUGGUUUAUGAGAGUUGGAUGAGUUUUUAGUUAACUUGUGUGCAUAAAUGCAUUUUGGUAAUUACACAAGGUUACAUAGGGGUAACUGUGCGAUAUCUUUGAACUUGGGUAAUUGAUUAAUUAGAGCCUUAUCGUAUUAAUUAAUCAAUUAGAAAUCUUUUUGGGUUAAAUUAAGUGACCCAUGCCCAUAGUGGGCUCAAGUCACUUAAGCAUAGUAGGAAACUUAUAAAUACCCCUCUCAAGGGUUUAGGUUUCUAAUUCAAUCUUGCCAUUCUCUCCCUACAGUCCAGAGAGAGAACCUUAGUCUUCAACCUUGAGAUUUCCACCAUCUCAGUGCCUAGAUUCAAGAAGGAGUCAUCGAGUGGAUGAUUAUGGGUUUACAGGAUCUUUAUUAGAUUUGGAGCUUUCUACACUAACAAGAAUUGAUUUGGGAACAUCUGAAUAAUACAUAUAACACUUUUUUCUAGAUUCAUGAUAUGUUUUCUUUUUUAAAAUACCAAAGUUUUCAACUAUGCUUAGAUCUAGAAAGCACAAAAUAGGAUUACAUGCACCCUAAUGAUCCAAGGCCUAGGAAUAGAGCGAUCCAAGGUUUCCUAGAAAAUAUAACCCAAUAAGUAAGAAUGAUUUAUAGGAACUAAAAAUUCUUUCAAAAAGAAAAAAAGUUAAUUGGAGUAAGAUAGGUAUACAAGAGAAGGAAAAAUGCAAAAGGAGUAGAAAAAUAUAAAGCAACAUUGGUGCAAAGGAUUACAAGAAAGAAUAAUGCACCAACAAGAUGAGGGUAUUUGCUCUCAUUGUUCUUUUAGUAACUAUAAAUUAAUAAUCUCUUUGGUAGCUCAAAAUAGUUGAAAUUUUCAAAUGGAUGUGAAAUCCAAUUUUUUGAAUUGACAUCUUGAAGAAGUGUAUGUAGAACACACCAUAGUUGGUAUAUAUAUAUAUAUGGGCAUGAGAAUAAAGUUCCAAAAUUGAAAAUAACCUUGUAUGGAAUAAAACAAACACUAAGAGCAUGAAAUGAUAGAAUUGACCAAUAUUUUCAUGAUAAUAAUUUUGUUUAAUACCUUUAUGAACACGCUCUCUGCAUAAAAGUGAAUGAAAAAAAGUAAUAUAUUACUUGUUUGUUUAAAUGUGAAUUUUUUGAUCUUUAUUGGAACUAAUCCAAUCAUGUUUAACGAGUUCAAAGAAGUAAUAGAAUAAAAGUUUGAGAUGACUGGAUUAGUCUCAUAUCAUACUCUCUUGGCUUAGACUUGAAGAGAUUGAAAAGAGUACUUUUUAUUUCUCAAGAAGACCAUGCAAAAUAAAUUUUCAGAAAGUUUAACUUGAAUAUGUGUAAUAUGGUAAACACUACAAUAUAAUGCAAAGCUAAAUUAUCAAAGACAUGUAGAAAGAGAAAAAGUGGAUUCAACAUAACAUAAAAUCUUAGUUGGAAGCAUACACUAUUUGACUUAUACAAUUUCAAACAUUCUCUAUGGCAGUUGGAUUUGUCCAUCAUUAUAUGGAAGCACUAAUGAGUAUUUACACUAAGACCUCGUGAAUUUUUCACUACAUCAACGACACAUUUGAUUAUGACUUAUAUUAUUCACCUUUAACAAUUUCAAACUUGUUAGAUAUAACGAUAGUGAUUAAGGUGGAGACUUAGGAUGAUACAAAGAGAACCACUAGCUUUAUGUUCCUCAUGGGAGAUACCAUGUUCACUUGGACUUCAAAGAAGCAACCUAUUGUGAAACUUUCAAUGUAUAAAGUGGAAUUUGUAUUGGCAUCAUGUGUACGUAGGUCAUGGAAUUUGGCUCAAAAAUUUGUUGAAAGAAUUUAGUUUACCACACAAGAAACCAAUAAAGAUCCAAGUGGAUAUAAAAUCAACAAUUACCUUAUGAAAAAAUCUAGUUCUCCAUGAUGAAAGCAAGUACAUUGAUACAAAAUAUCAUAUUUUAGAGAGUAUAUGAAAUACAGAGUGCAAUUAAAAUUUACAAAAUCUCAUAAUCAAAUUGUUAAAAUGUUUACAAAUUCUCUUAAGUUUAGCGAUUUUAGAAAGCUAAGCUUGCUACUUUGACAAAUCAAGUUGAAGGCAUGAGUGAAAAUGUUGACAAAGUUUCUCGAGUUUAAAAAUUUUAGAAAACUAAGGAUGCUAUUUUUACAAUUGAAUGGAGGAUUUAGUAAAACUGGAUUUAGGAAGUUUCUAAAAAUUAGAAUUUGAGUUAGAUUCUAAAAUGCUUGUUUAGUUUGUAUAUUUUGUUAUUACAAGAUUUCAUAUUUUACCAUUAUGAGUAUUAAAUUUUUUUAGGUGUUAAUAUCUAAAAAUAAGAUGUUAUGUAAUAGUUGAACAAGAGUGGUGGAAGAAAAUAAAUUUUUUCUUAGUCAUCCCAAUUAUUUAAAUAUCUCCCUUUACAUAUGUAAUUAUGUAAUGCCCUAAACCCAAUUUAGGGGUAAAAUCAUAAUUUAGAAAUUAUUAAUGAAUAAAAGUAAUUUAAUAAGGGUAAAAAAGUCUUUUUAUAUUUAAAACCCUAGAUAUAAAUUAGAUUUUUCAUAUCUUCUCUAUUCAGAAAACCCUUUUACAUAGAGAUCAGAAAGAUCAAAGAGCAUAGGGCUGAAGAUUUGGAGGUUUAGGGUUUGAAGAUCAAUUUUUCAGGUAAGAUUUUUAAUCCUUAAAUUAAUAUUUUAUAUUCGCUAAUUAGUUUUGAAUACUUUAGAUAUUCUUUGGAAUAUCUCAAUUUUGAUUAGAGUUCAUUUAAUUAAUUUCUAGGUCAAAAAGAUUAAAAAUUUAUGAACAUAGUUUGAUUUAUUAAUGGAGAUCGAUAAGUUUUGAUUGCUCAAAUGAAUAAAUCUAGAUAAAAAAAAAUUAAAAAUUAUACUUUAGAGGGUAUGGAGGUUAAAAGUUUUUACUUUAGAGAGGAGAAAACAAAUGAUGAAAGAUGCGUAGGAAGGAUUUGGCAUGUUGAAAAAAAAAAUGGUUGACCUAGGAAAGGAAUUAAAUAGUAUUUUGGUAAACAAUAAGGAAGAAAAGGACGUGGAUGUCUUGGAAGAGAAAUAGGUUAAGGUGUUGUUAGGUAUUGAAAUUAAUAAUAAUAAUAAUAAUAAUAAUAAUAAUGAUGAUAAUAAUAAUAAUAAUAAUAAUAAUAAUAAUAAUAAUAAUAAAAGAAACAAUAAUAAUGAAAGGAGUUGGUGUGGAGUUGUUGGGAAAAAAAAAAAGAAAAAUUGCAUGGGGUAUUUGUUAAGUUUCAAUAGAAGAUUUAAAUAAUAGUAAUAAUAAUUUAAUACAAAUAAAUAUUCGUAAAAGUUUUAAUUUAGAUAAGUUAGAAAAGAGAAAUAAAUUAUUGUUUAGGAAGUUGAAAAUAAUAUUGGAUGGUAAUAAUAUUAAUAUGAGAAAUUAAUUAGGAUCCCUAAUACUAAAUAAAAUAUUUUUAAGGUUGUCAAAUUUAUAUAUUUAGAUAAAUAAUCAAUAAUCAAUAUUGUGUAUGAUAUUAUGUUAGGUGAGGAGUAAAUUCGUCAAGCUAAAUACUUUAAGUUUUUGAGUGCUUCUUCAAGGUAAGGGAAAUUAGUGCGGAUUUUUAUAAAAGAAAACAAUUUUAUUUUUAUAUUGUAUUUUGAAAUGUGCAAAAAUAUUAUUUUUAUCUUUACGUAUAGAUGAAAUAUGUGUUUUGUAUGGAAAAUAUAUUUGAGAAUUUUCUUUGUUUAUGAAAAAUGAAAAAUUAAGGAGAUAUGAUAUUUUGUUUUGUAAAUUUGAAUUAAUGAAAUAAAGUGUUUGACUUUGGUUCUUAUGGCCCUAAUCAACGGGUUAUAAUUGUUGACAUAUUCAGCCCUAAUCAACGGGUUAUAAUAGUUGAUAUUAUAUGACCCCAGUCAACAGGUUAUAAUUGUUGACAUAUUCAAUCCUAAUCAAUAGGUUAUAAUAGUUGAUAUUAUAUGGCUCUAGUCAAUGGGUUAUAAUUGUUGACAUUUGGUUUUGUUCACCUUAAAUAGAACAAAUUUGAAACUAGUUACUCAAUUGUGAAGUCCCAUCUAAUUAGGCACUAUUUGUCAUACAAUAACCAGAGUAAAGAUAUUUUGAAUGUAUUCGAUUUGGUUUUGAUGAGAAAUUGUUUUGAAAUGGAUAUGAGAAAGUUUUGUUGAAAAGUUUGAAUGUAUUAGUAUUUUGAACUCAAAAGUUUUUGUGAAAAUAAGUAUAUGUUAUAUUUGUUAUUUGCAAGCAUGAUUGAAAAUGUUUGAUCCAUGAAACUGUAUUAAUGUUCCUUAUUGGGCUUUGAGCUCAUCCACUUUUGUUAAUAAUCUUUCAACUAACCUCAGUUCGAGUGAGGAGUGACCGUUAGGAGGGAAAUUUGGCUUUAUUAGGACAUUUGUUUAAACUCUCUUUAUGUUGGACAUUGUUUAGAUGUUAAAACUUAAUUCUCAUUUGAAUUAUUUUGAGUUUGGAGUUAUUUGGACAAUGACACUUUGGUUGAUGUAUUAGUUUUUUUAUAAAGUUGAUACUUGGAGAUUUUAGAAUUUUAUCAUACUACUCUGAAUAGGAAUUUGGUAAUUUGUAAAUUUCUAGUUACAAUAUGAAUGUUUGUAUCGUUUCCACUUUGAGCCUUUGGGCUUGAGGUGAAAUGAGAGGUGAAAUGAUCGUCAUGCCCUUGGAGUGGGUUUUGGGGUGUGACAAAUUACUUCCAUGUUUUUUCAACCAUAUUAUUGCAACAUAUGUGGAUCUGCUGGUUGGUCUAUGAAAAUUCAUAUAAGUUGUUAAAUUCUGUUAGGCUUGUGUAACGGUAUUUAGAUCAUAACAUCUUUCCCUAAGCCCGCAUUUUUCUAAAUAUAUAAUUAAAAUUGUUGUGUUUGCAAUUUUAAUGAAAUCUAGCAUUGGAUACUCAACUUCUCACAAAAUGACAAAAAAAAAUGGUGGUGAUUUCAUGGAGGCUAACCAUUCACCUACCUUUAGUCAAGGUUUUCAAGUUGUGUUACAAUAGUAAAGUAAUAAUCUCAAUCAAAACACAAAAUUUAGUUUUCUAAACAAUUAUUGUUCUUGGAAAACAUGCAAGGAAUUUAAGCAUCUUAAGGUACUUAAGCAAUCUUAGUUGGACAUUCAGUAUCCAGAUCUUUUCAUUAAUUGGUUUUUCUCUUUUUGUGCCAACAUCUGCUCUCUCUCUCUCCAACAUGCAAGCGUAAGUGGUAGGCACCUCUUUUGUGCUUUAAAUUAAUUUUUGAAGUAAUUUAAAUCAACUUAAAAGAUCAUAAGUCCCAUUGGAUAUGAUGUAUUGAGUUUUAGAUUUUUGAAGUAAAAUUAUCAACAUAGUCUAGAAUAUAUACUAAUAGAUUAUACUCUUUCCAAGAGUUUAAAUUGCUUUUUGUUAAUAGAUUAUAUGGAUGUUUUAACACAGAAAUUGGAAUGAAGCCAAAUAUGCAGAAAAAAGAAAUGGUUGUGACCAAUAGUUAUAUUUAAUCUCUUUUAUUUCUAUUGAUACUCAAAUUUUUAGGGAUAGAGCAUCAACAAUCCUUGUGAUGAAUUAAUAAUGUUGAUAAAAGUCAAUGACUACACAAUGUAGCUAGCUUAAAACCAAAUAUGUCAUUAAAGAAGAUAUCGAUAAUCACCCCCACACAAUGAUAUCUUGUAUAAUUCAUUAGUUGAAUCAAACACAAAUUUCGUUCAAUAUAUGUGUCUACGAGUAAAAGAGAGUUCUUGGUUUAUAUUCGACAUACACGCUAUAUAGGCUAUGCUAACAGCAAUUGAUAACAAGAAUCUCAACACUGAAGUCCAUGUAGAAUCAGGUGUCCACCAUAUUGGAGUUGCAUAGUUAGGAUAUUGAAAGGAGCAUGAGCAUAGGAUGGCGAAAGUUCAAAUAAGAAGUGUUGUAAGAUCAUUGCCAAAGCUAUUUUUGCCUCCAUCAUUGCAAAAUUUUGUCCAAUGCAUGCCUGAGGACCCCAACCAAAUGGGAAAAAUGAAACUUGGUUUUUUUUUGCCUUCGAAAUUCCUUCUGCAAGCCUCUCUGGGUUAAACUCCUUUACAUCAUCUCCCCAAAUUUCAUGAUCAUGGUGAACUAGGAUGGUGGGCAACGCAACCUGCACUCCAGCUGGAAAAUACAUGUCUCCCACUUGAGUGUCCUUAUAAACAGCUCUAGUAAGCAUUGCUACUGGUGGGUAUAACCUAAGAACCUCAUGAAAAAUCAUGGUAACCUGUGGUAGAGAAACUUUAUAAGUUGUAGCAUGAGAAUUCUUACUAAAAUACAUUCUAAUCAUUAUGCAGAACACUGAAGAAUAAAGCAAUUUCUUAAAAUAGUGAUGCAUAAGAGAAAAUGUUCUAAAUCAUGCAUGCCAAAAUAUCAAGUAUACAAAGGACAUUGCAUAUCCCAUGGAUAUAAUAACUUAAGAACCUCAUAAAAAAUCAUCAUGAUCUAUCAGAGAAAUUUGAAAUCAUGGCAUGAGAACCUGUUCCUGAGCUACUAAGUGAAAGCAAAUGUUUAGUACAAAAUAUAAAAACUUAAGAAAAAUGUGUUUUCAAUUUUACUCCAAUUUUGGGGAAAAAAAAUAGAGUACUAUAUGAUUUCAGUGAGAAUCACUAAACUGAAGAUUGGACUGAGUACUCACAAUUUUUAGGUGAUUUAAUCCAUUAGCUUCCAGUUUUUUAUUCCCAAAAACCUGUAAAACCUCUUCUCUUGCACGAGCUUGCCAAUUUGGAUUCUCGCUUAGCAGGACCAUUGUCCAUACAAGAAAAACUGAGGUUGUCUCUUGGCCAGCAAGAUAGAAUAUCUUACACUCUUCAAUGACCUCUUUGACACUCAUUCCAAUCUUCUUGUUAUUUUUAUGUUCUUGAAUUUAUCUAAAAUUGGAUUCCAUUAGUAUAACUAAUAAGUCACUAUUACCAGUUUUGUCAGCCUUCAUUGUCUUCUCCCUUUUGUUAAUGAUACCCCUCAGCAAUGCAUAUGCUUUUUUGCUUAUUUGCUUCAUCUUCCUGUUCGUCUUUGUGGGUAAAAACUUGUGCGCAUGUUAGUAAUUCUAGUAAAUAAAACAUCACAUGAAACACACAGACAUUAAUUCUUAUUUUCAUUCAUGCUUUUUACUUCUCCAUUAAUUUUUUGAAGCUUGUAUAAGGCUUCAAAGGUAGAAACUAUCAAGACAAUAACUAAUGGUUUCAUCUACACAUGUGUUGCAAUGGUAUAUCAUCAUCUUGACACAGUAUCCUGCCAACAUAAGAUUGAGGAUACUAAACAUCAAUUAGUGAAACAUACUACUUUCUAGGUGUUAUACAAAAGAAGUAAUUGACUAAAAGGGGAUGAAAUGAUCUCAUAUUUGUAAAUCUAAUAUCUCCUAUGCUUGACCGUGAAAAGUAAUCCAUUUUUAACAUAAAUUCCCUUCAACAUAUGAACCGAAAUUUGUGCUGGCAUCAUGUGUAGGUCAUGAAAUUUGGCUCUGAAAUUUGUUCAAUAAACUUAAUUUACCAAACAACACUACAAGGAAAAAGAUAUAUGGUGACAUUUAUAAUAAGUCACUAUAAACAUAGGGUGUCACUACAACAUAGCGUCACCUUAUCCACUGACACCAUAAAGGGUAUCAAUUGGUGACGUAUUUGGAAGCGACACCAAAGCAGAUAAAUGGUGACACAUUCAGAAGAGACACCAUAUAUUUUUAGUGAUGCUUAAUUUGAUAUAGAGUUGUAUGAGAUAUAUAAGGUGUCAUAUUAAAUGCAUCAUCUUUGAGUUAUGGUGUCACGUUAAAUGUAUCACCUUUAAUUUAUGGUGUCACAUCAUUGUAAAUGAUUAUGGAAAAUAUGGUUGUUUUUUGUUGAUUAGUUUGUAGAUUUUUGUAAUGCUUAUUAAUAAAUAAGACUAACCUGUGUAAAUUGUCCAUAAAUAUAAUAAUCAUAUUACAUUUAACUUAUAUUUUCAUAAUGCUUAUGAAUUAAUUUGUAACAUAUUACAUCAUCCAAUAAUAUUUGUAUAUCAAAUGUUCACAAAAUGAUAGUACAUCAAACACAUCAAACCCACCAAAAGGAAAAAAGAAAAGUGAAUACACAUUAAAACAUGAUUUAAANNNNNNNNNNNNNNNNNNNNNNNNNNNNNNNNNNNNNNNNNNNNNNNNNNNNNNNNNNNNNNNNNNNNNNNNNNNNNNNNNNNNNNNNNNNNNNNNNNNNGAAUAAGUAAUGUUAUACAAUAUCAAUGGAAAAUUCAAUCAUAUAACAACUAAGGGACUUACCAUGAAUGAUCACAAUACAUCAAUAUGAUUCAUGAUUAGUUAUAACACAAAAGUAAUCUAUUCUUCUCUAAUUUCAUCAAAUUCUACUUGAGAAUAUGUUUUAUUUGUCAUCAAACUGAAAUCAAAUGAGAAUAACAUUAAUAUCACAAUAAUUAAAAGUAUGAAAUUAUGUACAAUUCAUUAAAUGAGUAAAACCUUUGAUGCAAUUACUGUAAAAUCAACAAUUAUUUCUUUAAUGAAUCUCAUAACAAAGUAGUCAUAUUUGAACUUAGCAUUAUUUUUUUACUCUUAAAUUAUUUUAAAACAAAAUAACAAUUAUUAAUAUAUUGGUUCAUUUUUAAAUACUUUCACAAGAAUAUAUUUUAACUACGAGUUAUUUUAAUUUAUCAAAAGACUUUUAGGAAAUGAGCUAUUAUCCAUUUAUUAUUUUCUUAUUUUUCAAAAAAUAUUUUUAGUCAUUUCAUACACGUUUUCAACUACUAAAAUUAUUGUUUUUAUAGAAUAAACAAAGAAGCAUACACUUCUCCUCCACUCACUAAGUCAACUAUUACAAUCACCAUAAUAUUUUAUUCACCUACCAACAUCUCAUUCCAUUUAGAUAACUCUCUCAACAAAAUCAUUUCUACAAUACUUUUUACUCUCCUAUGAUAUUGAAUAUUUUAUUCCAUUUAGGUGACUCUCAACACAAAGAAAAGUAGGAAUGUCUUCUUAGGUUAACUAAACAAAGACUUUUUUUUUUUUUUUUACUUUACAAUAUGUAUAAAAAACAAUUAUUUAUUACAAGGAAUGUGGUAGAAAGGUCAUUUUAUUUUUAAAGAAUUUUUAAGAAUUUAUUAAACAUUUACAAAAAAUAGAAUCUAACAAUUUUAUUUCUAAAAAAAUUGAUCAAUUCAAAAAAGAAAGAAGAAUGUUAUUUUUUAAGAAAAGUUAAUAAACCACUUUAUUCUUGAAUUAUCUAAACAAAACUUACUAAAAAAUAUUUUAUCCCAAAUUUAUUUUCAAAACUUUCUUAUUGAAAACUAUCUCAUAUAUAAAUUAUUUUAUUAUAUAGAGAAAUUCUUAUUUUAUUCUUUUUUUAGAGAAAAAUUCACUUGUUUUUUAAAUAUCAAAGAAGUCUAUUUUUAUGUCUAUUAUAUAUAUAUAUAUAUAUAAAUUCUCUUAUUUUCAUACAAGAAAUUUCCAUUUAUGCCUAAAAUACUUUUAGAAAAAUCAUUGCCAACAAAAUUUUAUUUUUAAAAUUAUUUUCAACAUUCUUAUUUAAAAAAAUUAUCAUUGGAUUAUUUUCAAAAAAGACCGUCCUAAAAAAAUUAACCAUUUAUAACCCAAUUUAAACUCAAAAAUUAUCCCCAAUAUUAUUUUAUAUUCCUAAAUUAUUUUCAAACAAAAUAACAAUUAUUAAUAUUUUGAUUCAUUUUUAAAUACUUUCACAAAAAUAUAUUUAAACCACAUAUUAUUUUAAUUUAUCAAAAUAUUUUUAGGAAAUGUGCUAUUUUCCAUUUAUUACUAUCCUAUUUUUCAAAACAUAUUUUCAGGCAUUUCAUUCACAUUUUAAAUUUCAAAUACUAAAAUUAUUGUUUUUAUAAAACAACAAAGCAUGUAAAUUUCAACUACUAAAAUUAUUGUUUUUAUAGAAUAAACAAAGCAACAUACACUUAUCUUCCAUUUACUAAUUCAACUAUUACAAUCACCCCAAUAUUUUGUUCACCUACCAAUAAUUCAUUCCAUGUAGGUGACUCUAAAAAAAAAAAGUCAUAUUUAUAAUACCCUUUACCACUCUGAUACCCAAUAUUCUAUUCCAUUUAGGUGACUCAAUACAAAGAAAGUGGGAAUGUUUUCUUAGGUUAACCGAAGAAAACCCUAAAUAACUUAAGUGCUUUUGGAUUAAUUGAGCAUCAUCUUGUAGUAGAUGUCAAUCUCUAUUGUUAGACUUCACCAAAAAGCUCCUAGCACGGUGGAAAAAAGUAUCAAAUAUAGUCAAGUCUUCAAUAAAAUAUUUUCACAUGUGAAAAAUUACAACCAAUACACUAUAUAGUCAAGUCUUCAAUAAAAUAUUAUUUCAUACGAAAAAUUACUACAAACUAGUGUAUCUCUCAUUCUCAAUUAGACAUAAUUUUUAAAAAUAAUUCCUUUUUUUUUUUCAUUUGUUUUGGGGCUUAUUAGCAAUGAAACAAAAAAUAUGUUAGAAUGUUAAACCUAGUUUUUACUUCCCUGGAACUUGAUAAAAAACACCAUUUACAAAACCCACAUCAUAGAUAUACUUAAUCAAGAGAUAUAAAACAAUUAUACUAACAAAGUUUUUUGCAUUAAUAAAAAAAAAUGAAGAUGAUAGAUAAGAGAUUUGGACUUACCCGAGAUUUUACGAAGCAAAGAAUAUCAAUUAUGGGUGUGCCGACCAUGGGUGUGAGAAGAAGGAGAAGAAAACGAUGGUUAGGGUUAAGCAAUAAGAUCUUUUAUAUUAGUUAAUGUAUAUAUGGAAACAAUGGACUUUUCAUAAAUUGUUCCUACUUACUAUUUUUAAAAAGGGCCCAUUGAGUUAUAAAAUUUAAAACUUUUUAUUUCAUAUGGUGUCACUUCCAAAAAAUGACACUGUAAAUCUGAAAUUAGCAUCAUCUAACUAUCCUAAUUGAAGAUUUUUUAUAUGAUGUGUCACCUUUAUAAAUUUUAAGUUCAAUGGUGUCAUUAUUUUAAAUGCGACACCAUAAAUAGUGACAUCAUAAAUUAUUUUUGUAGUAGUGCAAGAAACGAAUAAAGAUCUAUAUGGAUAUGAAAUCAACAAUUAUCUUAUGAAAAAAUCUAGUUCUCCAUGAUGGAAGCCAGUAUAUUGAUACAAAAUAUAAUUUAUUAGAGAGUACAUUAUGAAAUAUGAAAUGCAAUUAAAAUUUACAAAAUGUCAUGAUCAAAUUGUGAAAACAUUAACCAAGUCUCUCAAGUAUAAAGAUUUUAGAAAGCUAAGGAUGCUAUUUUUACAAAUCAAGUUGAUGGGAGGAUGUUAGUUAAACUAGAUUUAGAAAGUUUCUAAAAAUUAGAUUUUGAGUUAGGUAUUAAAAGUUAAUUAAAAUAUUUUAUACAGAAUUCUUGAUUUAGUUUGUAUAUUUUGUUACUGCAAGAUUUUAUAUUUUACUAUCGUGAGUAUCUAUUCUUUUUAGGUGUUAGUAUCUAUAAAUAAGAUGUUAUGUAAUAGUUGAUCAAGUGUACAGGUGGACGACAAUAAAUUUUUUCUUAAUCAUCUCAAUUAUUUAUUUAUGUAAUUGCUUGUGUGUUUUUUCAACCACAUUGCUGCAACAUAGGUGAAUCUGUUAGUUGGUCUAUGAAAAUUCAUAUCAGUUGUUCAACCUUUUAAAUUCUAUAACGUAUGUAGAUUAUAGCCUCUUUCCCUAAGCCUGCAUUUUUCUUUCAUUUCAUGGUGUCAACACUUGAGGAAAGCAAAAUUUCCUAAAAUGGAAUAUGGUGUGCAAGGAUCCAGUGACUUAUUAGGCAUCUAAACAUGGUGGCAUUUAUUUUUUUGGCUUUUUGCUAAAAGCAAUUUGCUUUCAAAAUUUAGGUUGUUUGUUUUUUUAGUUUUUGAUGACUUAUUAUUGAAUUUUUAAAAUUUUUGGCUAAAUUGAGCACAAACAACUGACAUAAAAAUUCAUCUAAAAGUUUUCAAAAUUUUUGCUAAAACGUUAUAAAUUAACACUUGAAAAAAAAAUAGUACUUUUCAAAGUGGAAGUAUAUUAAUUUCUUGAUAAAAGAAAUUGCAAUAUUGUUAGCAAAGAUUAAGAACUACCACUGAAAUCUAAACCUUUGGUGUAAUUUAAAAAAGAGGGAAAAAAAACAAAAAGGAAAAGAAAAAUAAUUAGGAAGAGAAGAGCAGAAAACAAACAACUGCUUUAGGGCAGUAUAAAAAAGUUGGCCAUAAUUUGAAGAGAUCAGCAAACUUUAAUACUAUGAUGAAAAGUAAUAACUCAUAUCGCUAACGUAUUUCUUAAUGAAAUGACAACGGAAGGGCAGGACACGCGGGGCAAUAUCAUCAGAGAGGCUGAUUGGUCUUGAAUAUGCUUCUUUUAAUAUCAUGGACAUUUCUUUGAAGUCCCCAUGUAAAAGGCUAUAAGAAUUCUCAGCCAGGCCUUACUCUCUAAGGCAUCUUUCUAACCUCUAUGGCCUCAACCACACCCAAUUCAAUAGCAUCCAUAAACAGCUUAUGAACACAGUAAGGAACCCAAAAGAAAUUGCAACUGAGUUAUGCUUCAUUUCCAGGUUGAGGGACUUCUAUCAGGAGAGGUAUGUUAAAUCACUUCAGAGUGAGAAAAUGACUUUAUGCUGCCGAUGUGUAUAAAUUGGCCGCUAUUCUAUUCCCUCGUGUCGGCAAACAUAGAAGAGUUCGUCAAUACCUAAUGGAGAGAAGAACUUCUAGUAUUUUAAAAUCUAUAAAUUAUCUAUUUUAAUUGUCUCCAUCAAUAUGGCUUUUAAACUUCUCAAUGAAUUAUUAAUUUAUUCUAUUUGAUACAUUUCAAAGUUUGUGCAAUCAUCACUGCUUAUUAAAAACUAUAUAUGCCAUGAAUGUAGAAGGCAAAAUUUGAGCAUACAGAAUAUGGAAUUCUAUUUGAUGGACCAGCUUUCACUUGUGAGUCGAUGGAGCAUGUGGAUGCUCACUUUCAGAGAGUCAAGGGGCAGCUCGCAUCCCUCACAUCUUGGAAGAUGUCGCAGGGUGCUUCCAGCUCUACAACUCCAUCUGAUCUGGACUUUUUGAUACUUUAUGUUUUUUUUUUUUUUUUGGUGGAUAAGCUUAUUUUGUACACCUAACCCAUCUUGGCUCAGUUUAUCAUAUAUUUUGUUUGUCUAGAUGUACUUUUAUUUUCUUAUCUCUUGUAUCCAAAACCUUUUUUAUCAUAUAUGUCCAUGUGUUUGCUUUUCUUUUCUUCUUUUUGUAUGCUUACUGCUUCAUCAUGCUUUUUGUCAUUUUUUUUGCAACAAAAAAGGGGAAAUGGAUUGUUGAUUUGAUUGAGUGUUUUGAUAUUCAUAUUUUUUUGACAUCUGUUUCAUGACUUGCAUCCCCUUACUCGUUUACCUGAUUUGAUAAAAUUGAUCAAUUAUCUUUCUUCCCACACACUACUUUACCUGGGUAUGUUGUUUAGUGUGUGCAAGUUCUAGGUACUAGGGUGUUGGUCAUUUUUUGGAUGUGGCUUCUAGUCCUUUGCACGAUAGAUGAUGAAUUGGUUUAGACAAGAGGUAUUGAGAGAGAUUUGUAAACUCCAUUUCAGAGUAUUGAGGGGUUUAUGCAAUUUGUAUUUUAUCACAAAAUUGCCAAAGGGAGAGAUUGUUCGUACAUUAGGUGAUGUAGUUUAAAAUUGUCAAUUUUGUUCUAUUCAUUUUGGUUUAGGAUCUUUCUAGAUUGUGUUUCAUUCCCCAUUGAAGACUCAAGGUUAUUAAUUGAUCAACCAAGAUUACAUAGGUAAGUGUAAAAAGAUUUAGGAAAGGGAAGUUAGUGUUUGGUAUGACAUGGCAUGGAUUGAGUGGUUUAAAAUUGAGCAAAAUGAUUUUCUAAUUGGGUUUAAAAAAUGCUUAAAGUGCUCAAGCACUCUAAGAGCAUUUGAGCUCUAGAAAAAAAAUUCUCUAGAAUUUUGGAGAUCUGUCUUUCUAUUUUUAAAGGAUUUAUUUUGAGGAACUUUUUAGAAUUAGUCCACUAGGUUCCUAAGCUUAAAUAUACAUUGCAUAAAAAGGUUUUUGGUUUGAUGCUUUUGAGUUGAAAAACCUAGUUUUUCUUAUUGUUUCCAAAAUUAUAGAAGAAACAUUCAUAUUUACUUCUGCCUAGUUGAGAAGGAGAUUUGUAUCCCCCUCAAGUGCUGAAGUGAGAUCCUCUAUGAGCACAUGAGAUGUUGCAUUGUGGACGCAAAACACAGUGUAGGUGUUAGGUAGUAAGUCUUAGUAGUAGCUUUCAUCAGGUAAAAUUGAGUACAUACCUCAUUAUAUAUGAUGGACAGCUCCUCAAAUGCAUAUCCUACAAUCAAAAUCAAUUGAUUCUAAAUUAACACCCAACCCAUAUUUCAAACAAAAUCUUGCAAUUUCACAUUUUGAGCACCAAUCCAUGAAAAUGGUGUUUUUGGGGAGAAAAUUCAAUUGAUUUAGGAGCAUAUUAGAUCUUACCCUUCCCCUCUUGAGACUUGAGACUUAGGAGUAACCUAUUUUCAGAUAGAUUCAAUAUCACUAAUUGAUUAAUUUUUAUGUACAAUAUGUUUUUCUAAAUUUUUAAAAAUUCCAUCCUUUUAAUUCUAUUAGAAUAACGUAAAUCAUAUGGAAGUUAGAUUCUAAAUCUCAAGUCUUCACAUCAUCAAGUAUCAACUAUAAGAACUCAAACUCAACACUUUAGUGGCUCUAAAGAGUCUAUUUUAGUGCAUUUGAGGUAUUUAAAAAUGACCUAAUGCUUGGUUUUUUUGUUAUUAAUGCCUUAGCCAUUUGUUUUUGAUAUUUUUUUGUGAGUAUUUUUAGAACUUUAAAGUAUUUUGAAAAUGAAGUGGACUUUGUGGAGGAUUCUCAAAGAAUAAAAUGCCUAAGUAGAGAGCAAGAACAAAUUGUAUACCUUUUAAGUACACAGGAUUCUAUUGUGCAUCUCGCUAGUGUGCCACCAAACUAGAUUGCACAUUCCCUCUAACAAUUUAAAUUGAGCACCUUCCCUAUGAUUCAAAGGUUGCAUACCCCUCAACAAUUGAACCUAACAAGAGCACUCAAGUUGUGCAUGUCCAUAACAUCUUAAUUGCACUUUUCCCUACCGCUACAGUAGUUUAUCCCUAGGGUCACUCACCAUGCAAUGUCACACCCCAAAACCCACUCCAAGGGCAUGAAGAUCUUUUCACAGCUAGCUCAAGCCCAAGGGCUUAAAGUGGAAACAACACAAACAUUUGUAUUGUAACUGAAAAUUUACCAAUUACCAAAUUCUUGUUCAAAGUAGUAGGACAAAAUUCUAAAAUCUCCAAGUAUCAACUUGAAAAAAAAAACUAAUACAUCAACCAAAGUGUUAUUGUCCAAAUAACUUUCAACUCAAAAUAAUUCAAAUGAGAAUUAAGCUUUAACAUCUAAACAAUGUCCAAAAUAAAGAGAGUUUAAACAAAUGUUAUAACAAAGCCAAAUUUCCCUCUUAAUGGUCACUCCUUGCCAGAACUGAGGUUGCCUAAAAGAUUAUCAAUGAAGAGAGGUAAGCUCAAAGGCCAAUAAGGAACAUUAAUACAAUUUUAUGGAUCAACAUUUUCAAUUAUGCUUGCAAAUAGGAGAUAUAACAUAUACUUAUUUUCAUAAAAACUUUUGAGUUCAAAAUGCUAAUACAUUCAAACUUUUCAACAAAACUUUCUCAUAUCCAUUUCAAAACAAUUUCUCAUCAAACCAAAUCAAAUACAUUCAAAAUAUCUUUACUCCAGUUAUCGUGUGACAAAUGGUGCCCAAUUAGGUGGGACUUUGCAAUUGAGUAACUAGUUUCAAAUUUGUUCCAUUUAAGGUGAACAAAACCAAAUGUCAAGAAUUAUAACCCAUUGACUAAGGUCAUAUAAUAUCAACUAUUAUAACCUGUUGACUAGGGCCAAAAAUGUCAACUAUUAUAACCCGUUGACUAAGGCCAUAUAAUGUAGAGAGUCAAAUACUUUAUUUCAUUAAUUCAAACUUACAAAACAAAACAUCAUAUCUCAAAUUUUCAUUUUUCAUAAACAAAGAAAAUACUCAAAUAUACUUUCCAUACAAGACAUAUAUUUGAUCCGUGCUUAAAGAUAAAAAUAAUAUUUUUAAACAUUUCAAAAUAUAAUAUAAAAAGAAAACUAUUUUCUUUUACAAAAAUCUGCAUUAAUUUCCUUUACUUGAAUAAGCACUCAAAAUCUUGAAGUAUUUAGCUUUGAAGAAUUUCCUCCUCACCUAACAUAAUAUCAUACACAAUAUUGAUUAUUGAUUAUUUAUCUAAAUAUAUAAAUUUGACAAUCCUAAAAAUAUUUUAUUUAGUAUUAGGGAUCCUAAUUAAUUUCUCAUGUUAAUAUUAUUACCAUCCAAUAUUAUUUUCAACUUCCUAAACAAUAAUUUAUUUCUCUUCUCUAACUUAUCUAAAUUAAAUCUUUUAAGAAUAUUUAUUUGCAUUAAACAUUAUUACUAUUAUUUAAAUCUCCUACUAAAACUUAACAAAUACCCCAUGCAAUUCUUUAUUUUUUUCCCAACAACUCCACACCAACUCCAUUCAUUAUUAUUAUUUCUUUUAUUAUUAUUAUUAUUAUUAUUAUUACUAAUUUCAAUACCCAAUAACACCUUAACCUAUUUCUCUUCCAAGCCAUCAACGUCCUUUUCUUCCUCAUCGUUUACCAAAAUACUAUUUACUUCCUUUCCUAGGUCAACGUGCUGACCAAUCCUUAGUUUUUUUUUUUUCAACAUGCCAAAUCCUUCCUACCUACAUGCAUCUUUCAUCAUUUUUUUCUCCUCUCUAAGGUCAAAACUUUUAAUCUCCAUACUCACAAAUUUUAUGUAAUUUUCACAUCUGAAACUAUAUAUAUAUAUAUAUAUAUAUAUAUCUAGAUCUAUUCGUUUGAGUAAUCAAAAUUUGUCGAUCUCCAUUAAUAAAUCAAACUAUGUUCAUAUUUUUUUUAUCUUUUUGACCUAGAAAUUAAUUAAAUGAACUCUAAUCAAAAUUGAAAUAUUCCAAAGAAUAUCUAAAGUGUUCAAAACUAAUUAACAAAUAUAAAAUAUUAAUUUAAGGAUUAAAAAUCUUACUUGAAAAAUUGAUCUUCAAAUCAUAAACCUCCAAAUCUUCAACCGUAUGCUCUCUAAUAUUUCAAAUCUUUAUGUAAAAGGGUUUUCUGAAUAGAGAGGAUGGGAAAAAUCUAAUUUAUACCUAGGAGUUUUAAAUACAAAAAGACCUUUUUACCUUUAUUAAAUUACUUAAUUUAAUUAUUAAUUUCUAAAUUAUGAUUUUACCCCUAAAUUGGGUUUAGGGCAUUACAUUCACACUGUUCCCACUCUUGCAAAGGUUGCACACCUGAGAAAACUCCUUCCAAUGAUUUGUACACUCACCAAAGUAAUGCAAGCAUCUAAGCCUUAAGUCAUCAUCUAUACUAUCAAUUCUCCCAUACCGAUUGCAUUGAAAGCCAAGUGCAGCCACCAACUCCAAGCUGACAAGUCAAGUACAAGAAAGAUGGCUAGUUGACUACAUUGACACAUGAUAUGAUCCCCAACAUGAGCAAGAGGCAGUUCUAGGAGAAUAGUUUGAGCAAUAAGAAUGGAUUACCUAAAGGGAAACCCAUCUAUAAAUAGAGGAUUGUCUGGGCACGCGUGCGCAUACACACACACACACACACACACACAUAUAUAUAAAUAUGUAUGUAUGUAUGUAUGGGGAGAAGAAAAGAAAAGAAAAAAAGAAUGUUGAAGAGUUUGAAUCUUUAAUGGAGAUGAUAUUAACCUUUUUAGGAUUUAGUUAGGAAUUUAUUUUGGUAAUUAAAAUGACAAUUAAUUAUUUGGAUAGGAUUUGUUAGGUAGUUUCCUACUUCUUUCCAUAUAUUUUCCUUAUGUUUGUAGGUUUCCUACAUUAUAUAAAUAGAGGACAUUUUCUCUUCUUUUCUCUAUGAAUGAAUAUAUGACUAGGUAAAAUUAAGCUAUAGGUUUCUUAAUUGUAUCAAAGCCAAAUUCUUAUUACUAGGAAUAAUGGUUAAAAUUACAAUGAUAGGUGCUUCCAAUUAUGAUAACAACUUGAAGGAGGCAGAAAGAAAACCUAUCCCUCAUUAGAAUUUUGUGACCAAUGGUCAUGGUCACUCUUCUUAGCUAAUUACCUCUCACAAACUAACUUAAUGGAGAAAAUUAUCUUGAAUGGUCUCAAUUUGUCUAACCUUUCAUUCGUGGGCAUGGACAAAUUGAAUAUUUUAUUAGAGUAACAUCAAUACCACAAGGAACAAUUCUCAUCGAGACAUAGGAAGUAGAGAAUGCCAUGAUUAUGUCAUGGUUGAUCAACUCAAUGGAACUCAAGAUUAGGAAGACAAACAUGUUCAUGCCCAUAACUAGAGAGAUCUAGGAGGCUACCAAGGAAACCUAUUACAACUUGGUAAUUUGCUCAAGUCCACAAGAUAGCCAUACAAGUAAAAAAUACCAAGCAAGAUAAUAUGAAUGUAAUUCAAUACUAUAAUACACUCAAAACUCUUUGGUAAGAACUUAAUUUGUUCUAUGAUUAUGAAUAACAUUGUGCACAUGAUAGUGAAAUGUUCUAAAAGAUAUGAUUGAGAAGGAUCGAGUAUUUGCAUUCCUAAUGGGGUUUAAAUAAUAAAUUAGAUGAGGUUUAAAGUAGAAUUCUUAGUAGUGAAUAAUUCUAGCAAAAUCUAAUACCUCUUUACUUAACAUUACCCUAGUUGUAAAAAAACAGUAAGCUUCACAUUUCGACCAAUGAUCCAAAAUUCAAAAGUAUUCAUGGAAGGCCCUAGUGUGACCGUCAUCUCCUCUAAAUGCUUCCAGAAUUCAAAAUAUUCAUUGACAAGUGAUUAACCAUCAUCUUUUCCAAAUGCAUCUUUAGAUGUCAUAUACCCAAAGGUGUUCAAAUUCACAAGAUAUUGACCAAGUCUAGAUAUUAAGAAGGUAUAUGAUCCUCUACCAUUAGAAAGAAUAAGAUACAUUAUCCUCUACUAGUGAAAGCACAUAUGUCAUCAUAUCAACAAAUCAAGCAUGCGUGCAAAUCUAUCUUCUUGGUCUUCUAAUUGUGGUCAAGCAAGUAUUAAUGAAGUACUUAAUUUGAAGCAUCUCUUUAUCAUCUAUAGUGGUUGUAGUUGCUAAUCCAAUAAUUGUACUCCUUUAAAAGUGGUACAAAUUAUUCUUCCUUAUUCCUUGCAUCACGACAAGUUUACUUGGCAUAACUUUCAAAAUCCCAUCUUUUAUAGUAACAAUAUUGAACCCUAUGGGUUCUAAUACUCCAAUUGAGAUGAGACACUUAUUCAUACUAGGAACAUACCAAACAUCACUCAAAAUUUUAGUUGAUUCAUCGUGAGUCUUCAACUGGAUGGUAUUUAUUAUUGUUAUCUCAUAAGCAUUAUCAUUCCCCAUGUAAAUAACUCCAUCUUGUAGUUCUUCAAAGCAAGAAAACCACUCCUUGUAGGAAUGCGUGUCAAGGUGGACCCAAUAUCCAAAAUCCAUUCAACUAAGUUAUAAAACAAGGAUAAGCAAACCAAAGCAAAGUUUGACCCAUCUUUUCCAAACUUAGCCACACAAGCAUCGAAUACUAUUUCUUCUUUAUUCUUAUUCUGUAGCUUAGGACAAUCAUUAUUUUGACACUACCAAAACUUAAGUAUGGUUGACCCAUUUACAUUUAAUUUUCUAACAUAUUUAAGCUGACGGAAAUUUAUAAUACACCUAUUCCAUCGCAAAUUGAAUUGUCCGUCACUUAUAUGUAACUAUUUACCAACAGUAAUUGCAACAACAAAUACUUGUCGGCAAAAAUAUUAUUGCAAUGGAUUUAAACCAUUGCAAAUGUUCAACUAAUAUACUUUGUCACAAGAGCAAUUUACCUAUAAAAUAGAAAAAUAAAAAACAAACUUUCAAAAAUAAUUUUUUCUAUGAAAAUUACUACUCACUAAAACAGUUUUAUUAUAGUGGAUAAUAAUACCACACAUAAUUUGUUCCAAAAAUAAUUGUAGUUAUAUGAAUAUAAAAUCUUUUCACCAUGGUUUUAUGAUAAAUACGAUCUAGCUAGUGACAAAACAAUUUUAUGAUUAUUUUUUAGGUUCAUACAAUAUUUACAUUUUUUUUAAUCAUAAUAGUUUUAACUACUUUUUAUUGUCCAUUUUAGAAAGAAAUAAAUUAAAAAUUAUUGACAUAUAUAUAUAUAUAUAUAUAUAUAUAUAUAUAUAUAUAUGUAUGUAUGAUAUAAUUUAUGAUAUCGAAUAAUAAUAUUUAAAAUUUAAAAAUAUAUUUUAUAGAGAUUUAUCUAAUUUGAAUGUAUUCAAUAACAUAAAAAAAUGAUAGUACAUGUAUAAGUAUUUUUAUUUUAAAAUGUUGAUAAUUUUAUUUAUAAAUUUAUAUUUAAUUAUUAUACAAAAUAAACAAGAAUCAAAAUUAAUUAAUUUAUAAUAAUUUUAUUUUAACUAAUUUAUAAUUUAUAUAUAUAUAUAUAUAUAUAUAUAUAUUAAUUCAUGCAUGUAUAAUUUAUAUAUAAUAUGUAUUUAUAUAUAGAUAAUAUUUAUAAUAUAAAUGCAUAAGUAUAUAAUAUUUACAUUUAUGAAUCUCAUAUACAUUCUUUAUAUUACACAUAAAUAAGAUGACUUGGUGGCAUAGUUGCUUCCUUUCAAACUUGAGGUCAAGGGUUCAAUCUCAAGAAACAACAUCCAAGUCAAUAUCCAAAAUUAGCAAGGAGAGGAGUGUACAAGAUGCUCCAUGUGAAUGUAAUGAAAUCGAAAUUUCAUGACAACCUAAAAUCUUUUAUUAUUUAUAUUUCUCAACCAACUUAAUUUGUUGGUAAUAGUGAUGGUCUAAAUCCAUUGGAUAGUUUGUCACUAAAUAUUUUUUAUUGGCAACGGAAAAUUCCCAUCAAUGGACUUUUGCCAACACACCUUUCCUCGACUACCAUGCGAUGGGAUUAUUGAUUGGUAAAUAUUUAUUUCGACUGUGUAUAUUAGUUGAGAAAAGUCAAAUUUCUUGUAGUGCGGUGACCCUUGUCAUGAAAAAAGACGCAUUCAUCUUUUGCAAGUAUACAUUUAAAUUAAGAAUUGUCUUCUUUUCUAAGUUUUCAACUUUGAGAUUAGUCAUUAACUGUUAAAGCUUCCAAUGAUAUAUCUCUAUGAUCGCUUUGGUCCUUCUUCCUUUAUUCAUAUAUUUGUCCUCCAAUGUCUUCCAUAAAUGUUUUUGUGGAUAUCUCUUUCAUAAUGGAAUAAUUUUAAGCUUUAACAAGAUAUAAGUGGAUGGAACUAUAAAAUUGACAAUUGAUCCCUUACCCAUUCUUUAUCAUUCAUGUUUUCAAGUUUUUCUUCCAAAACAAUAUCCAAAUCCUAUUGACAUAUCUAAUUAAUGCCUCUUACUGCCACAUUCCAAAAGUACUAGUCCUAUCAAAUUUAUCUAUUAUAAAUUUUGCAUUAGUAACCAUAGUUUUAACUAACGAAGUUUUUACCUUUUCUUUUAACUAGUGCAAUAAAAAAUAAUCUUGAACUAAUCUUGAAACCAACCUUGGAUAGAACUAAUGCUCUUAUACCAUUUUGUUGUGCUUUAACCUAAUCCCACAUGCAAGACUUCCAAAAGUACCAAAUAAAAUACAAACUAAACUAGUCCAUAAUAUAAAGAGAAAUAUCAAGAGAAAUAAAAAUAAAGGAGGGUACACAAUAUUUAUGAGGUUUAGUAACGAUGUCUUACCUAUUUCACCGAACAAUGAUGAUCAAUCUACUAAUCUUCAAAUCAAAAUUACAAAAUCAAGUUGUGAAAGAUUGUCUCACAAAGUGGCUGCAAUUACAAAGAUUGACUGAAGCUACUCUAACAACUUUGCUAAAGUCAUUCUUACACUACUAUGAUGAAAAGACUUAAGACUCAUUUAUAGAACCUAAAUAAGUCCUCGAGCCUUGACAAAACUAAUUCAUAGUUCCUAUGGGACAAGGACUCCUAACAUAUAACAAAUUAUGAAAUCAUAAUCCUUAUAGGACAAGGAUCCCUAAAAUAUAUUAAACUCUUAAUUAAGCUAAAAGCCAGUACCUAAUAUAGAACCUAUACCAUAUUUGCUAUAACUCUACUAAGUAGAUGGUUGUUAAGAAGUAUUAUCACUUUCAAAAGUUAAAUAAUCAUUUAUUUUUCCUUCCCUUUCCACUUUUCUUAUCAUCCAGACAACAACAGUAAAAAAUGUAGUGUAACUUUUGUUACUUUGCUACUUGUUCUCUCAACUUACUUGCUUGCUUGUGAAUGACCUCCAUAAUCAAAGUAAAUGGAGAAAAAAUGUGGAGUUCCAAGAUAUAGGUAGAAAAGAGUGGAAAAAACCUUAGUUCUAUAAAAUAGUUUGCAAUUUUGUCUCUAGAUCUCUCAUUUUCGUGGUAAUGGCCAUUGAAGAUGUCAUCACUGAGAAGAUCACAAAGUGAAGAAGGCAUGACUGAGGGUUGGUAGUAUAGAGAGUUAAGGUAGAAAAUAGCAAAGAUAGGAUUUUGACGUUUUUAGAAUUUGUAAAUAAAAAAUAAAUACAAUCCAAAAAUCACUUUUAGAACAUGAUUUUACCUAACCAUGCCAAACAUAUUUUUUGUUAUGUGGAUUGUAUUUGAUGUUCUCAAAAACAUUGAAUACAUUUUGGAUUGACUAUUAAACACGACCUUAGUAAUUAAAUUAGCAUAUUGAUAAAUUAUCAAGAGGCUCUUAUCAAUUUGGUCAACUCUUAGAAAAGUGUUGUUGAAAACACUAAAUACAAUCUAUAUAUAUAUAUAAAAAAAUGAAACAUGAAUUUACUUGACCAUACCAAACACAUUAUUUUUUAUUUGGAUUGUGUUCAGUAUUUUCAAAAACACUAAAUACAUGCAGUUUGAUUGACUACUGAACAUGAACUUAGUAAUUAAAUUAGAAAUUUCAAAUGAAUUAAUGUCUUCUAUUUUGCAAGCAAGUCAAGAUUUUAUGUUUUCUACUAAAAUUUUAAAUGCAUCACUAAAAGUAACAUCACCACUUUCUAGUUAUAAAGUUUUGAGAAGAUAUUUUUUAUCAACACAUAUAGUUGUUUGCUUUCAUGUCAAGAUACCAAAUACUUUUUUCGUAAAAUUUUUCCUUUUUAUGCAACUAAUAAAGUGGGGUUUUUUUCUUGAUUCAUUUUUUAACAUAGUUUUCCAUUCUACACUGUUAAUAUACCAACACUUUUCAUUUUUUCUUGAAUUUUGGAUGUUCCUUCAUUGUAUGAUGGACAAUUUCCUUAGCCACAACCAUGAUGACCAUGACCAUGACAAUGAUUAUUUUGGCUUCCUUCAUACCAAAUUUUUUUCCCCUCUUGUUGAUAUAUUAAACUAUGUUGACAAUUUUCUUUUAUUUAUAUAGUGAGUCUAAUACAUCAUACUUCCAAGGGUCAUAUUGAUGUCACUCAACUUCAAGCUACUUUUGAGUUAACUAUAUUACAAGGUAUAUGUGCAACAUUAGGUUGAAUUAAGGCACAAGGAAUGGCUACCACAUGUAUGCUAGGUGAAAUAUUAGAGUUUUUUUUUUUUUUUUUGUCAAGGAUAAGGAUUUGAGUAACUAAAGCCUCAAUAAAGUCUUUAAGAUAUCCAUUAAGGAACACAAGGAGUGUUGCAUGGGGGCGUGGAAGAAGAAUAUAAGUUAUGUGUAUCUUGUCUUUAUAUUUAGUAGAUUGUUUGUGGUUGAUAAACUAUUCAUGUAAUGACCUGCUCCCAACCGUGUAGAUAUUGUCCACUUUGGACCUAAAGGGGCCCUCACGGCUUUAAAAUGCCUUUAUAGAGUUAAGAUAAGUCCAUACUUAUAUAGCGCUAAGAAAUUUCCCCCCUAUUUGAUGUGGGAUGUUAGAAACACCCCCUUCCCUAUGUAGACACAACGUCCUCGUUGUGUCCUAUGGGAUUGUAGGGCCAAACAAAUGAACACCCCUACAAGGCCAAACAAACCCUCAAACCGAGGUUGAAGAUCGGCUUUGAUACCAUUUGUAACAACCCAUUCCCAGCCAUGUAGAUAUUGUUCGCUUUAGGCCUAAAGGGGCCCUUACGACUUUAAAACACAUCUACGAAGUUAAGAAAAGUCCAUACUUAUAUAGCGCCAAGAACUUCCCCCCUAUCCAAUGUGGGAUGUCACAAACACCCCCAUCCCCCACCCCAUUAUAUAAAUAUAUUAUUAUUAUUAUUAUUAUUAUCAUUACUUUCAAAAAACCCUACAACACCAUUACUCCAAGCCACCAACUACACUCAUUAUUAUUAUUAUAAUAAUAACACUUUUUUUUUCUUUUGUUUCUUCCUUCAUAGACGUCCACAUGCAUUUUUUUUUUCUUUUUAGUUUGUUUGUGACAUCCCACAUCAGAUAGAGGGAAAGUUCUUGGCGUUAUAUAAGUAUGGACUCCUCGUAACCCUGUAGACGUGUUUUAAAGUCGUGACGGCCCCUUUGGAUUCAAAAUGGACAAUAUCUACAUGAUUGGGAGCGGGUUGUUACAAAUGGUAUCAAAGUCGAUCCCCAACCUCGGUGAGGGGUUUGUUUGGCCCUGUAAGGGUGUUUGUAUGUUUAAACCCACAAUCCCGUGGGACACAACGAGGACGUUGUGUCUGCAUGGGUGUUGUUUGUGACAUCCCACAUCAAAUAGGGGAGAAAGUUCUUGGCGCUAUAUAAGUAUGGACUCCUCAUAACCCUGUAGACGCAUUUUCAAAUUGUGAGGGCCUAUUUGGGUCCAAAGAGGACAAUAUCUACACGGUUGGGAGCGGGUCGUUACAUACACAUAAAUUUCAUGAAAGUCUUGCAACAUAUAAGGGGUAGGCCUUGAAGUUACAGUGAUAAUUUAUUCCACUAAAAAAUUUGAUCUCUACAUUGAUAUCAAAUUUUUUUUUUUUUUUGGGAGUAAUAGGGAUAAAUACACAAAUAAUAGUACUAUUAAAAGAGAUAAGUAGAUGAGGAAAUUAAAAGAAAUUUAUUGUGUUUUAAUACAUUAAUUGAAGUAUUAUAUACACAACUCCAAUUACAAUAUGUUUUAAUACACUUUUAAAAACCAAAUCAAAUGUAAUUUUUGAAAACUUCUUGAAACUCAAAUUUAGAUUUCAACGUGUGAUUGAAUGAUAGGGAUGAAAAAAAAUAGGUAAAUAAAACAUAUGUAAUAUUAUUGUAUAUUAUUAAUCGCUUCCAUACCAUUAGCAUAUCAAUGGCAUCUUGCUAAGAAGAAGAACCACCACAACAAUCCAUUAUAAUAGUUUCGGAAUGAAUGACAUUUAUUUGUUUGUAUUCUAUUGUUUUUCUAUUUACGUCAUAUUCACAUGAAUUGACUUUUUGUUUAGAGUAGUGUUUUAGUAGAGUAUUCGUAGUACACCUAGAUAUCUUUCUAUGCUAUCAUAAAGUAGCUGAUUGCCCAUGAUUAUGCAAUGCCAUCAUAAAGGAACUGAAUGGCCAACACACGUACAUGUGAGGUACCAUAUUUUUUAAGAAAGACAAGUCAGUUUGCAAUUGAUGUUAAUAUCUUUCCAAGGCAGAAACAUCAUUUUGUAGGUAUAAUUGAAUUAGUUAAACUCAAACCCCAAUUGACAUUCUUUCAAGUAAAAUCAUUUUUAACCUAUAAUGCUCAACACUUUUAUGAGAAUCAUAAAAGUAUCAGAAUCAUAGAGAAUUAUUGAAAGUGAUUUUGUAGUGUUGUUGAUAAUAUGUCACAUGACUAUAAAAAUGCUUUUAAUAUUAGCAAAUUAUAAAAAAGGACAUCAAAUUUAAUUACAAGGAAAUAUUAUAAUAAACUAAUACUUUUUCGUGAUAAAAGAAUAUAUAAACAUUUAUAGUAAAAGAAUAUAUAAACAUCUAUAUUACUAACAAAAACUAAAAAAUAAUAGUUCUUGUGAUUACAAGAAAAUUUUAGAAAAUAUUUACAACAUGAUUUGGAUUAAUAAACAAACAUCAAUAAUAAUAUAAUAAUUUUUAAAACAAAAAAAAUCAUUUGAUUAUUUAUUCACUUAAAAAUAAUAAUUUUUAUUACUACAAAAUUUUGAAAAAUACUUACUAAAAAUCUAGAUUAAUAAUGAAAAAUUGAAUAAAAACAUAUUAGUUUAGUUUCUAAAAAAAAAAAAAUAGUAAUUGAAAGCAAAUGAGAAAACAAAUUCUCUCAUAGUAAAAAAAUGAGAAAAUUAUAUAUAUUUUUUUCAUAUUAGUGUUAUAAUAAAACAUCAACAAGAUAUAAAACGACUAGCAAUUCGAUCACGUUUUUCUUACAUCUCUCUUGCAUGAUAGAACCAUCUUUCUCAACUCAUGAAUCCACUCUACUCUUUUUUUUUUUUUUUAUUGAAACAGAUGUAACCCUUGAUCAUCAUCAUAAGGUUUAAAUUUCAUAUAUAUCCUAACAUUAAUCAUUAUUAAGUUGUAAAAACCAUCAAAGUAAUAACAGUGUUGACUUAUUUUUCAAGAGGAAAACUAUGCAUUUCUCAUAUUGUUCCACAUCUAUUCUUUAAAAAGGCAAAUGUUCAAUUGUUCUUCUCAAAGAUGUCUAUGGUUAAAUAUUUCCUUCUUACCUCUUGGUAAACUACUCUAUCGAAAUCUAAAAGAUGGUAACACUCGCCCUUUAAGGGCCUAAUUAUAUAUCCACUCAUUUAAGGAUAACCAACAUUGAGUAAAUAAUAUUUACCUACAAAAAAAAAAUUAAAAUUAUAUAAGAUUAUGAAAAUCUAAUCACAAAAGUAACUUUCAUAUUUUUAGUCACAAAUCUCUAGAAGGAUGAGGAAAACCCAAUUCUAGCAUUUUUUUUUAAUGCCUAUGAAAAGACGCAUACAUCAUGAGCAAAACCUUCCCAUCUAGCCAAUGCAAAUGUGAAAUACAUAUUGAAAUAAUAUAUGACCAUAAUAUUUUAGGUAGUUAUGCUUUUUGUACCAAUAUAUGAUAUUUGCCUAUCUAUAAAAACCAUAAUGGGCAUAUGAGUUCCAUCAAUUAACCCUGUACAAUUCUUAAAAUAUUGCCAAUAACGUCUAACAUUUCUUAUUUUAUCAAGGAUCUCCCUAAACUAUGAAUCACUUGGUUUUAUAUAUCCAUAGCUAUAAGAUAAACAACAUAUAAUAUAAUCUCAAACCAUCUAGAAAUAAAUUCAUUGGAGUGAUAAAAUCUUUCUUAGGUUGUCAUGUUGCCAAGUUUAUGGCCAAUUGUAGUGAGAAACAUUGCUAAAGCCUCUAUUAAGGGAAUAUCUAAACCUUCUCUUAGACCAUGCCUUUUAAUAAGUGUUUCCAAUAAUUAAUGCAUACAUGUUUUUCCAUUCUAAAUUGCUCAACUAUAAUUUUGAAAAAGUUCUACAAGGUUUUUAUUUUUUGUAGUUAGUAACUGUUAUAGGUAUAACACAUCCAACCAACACCAAUUGAUAAAAAUCAUUUCAUCACUGCGUUCAUCUUUAAUAUCAUGAUUGCAACUAUUAUUAUAAUUAGAAAACAUAAAUACAAAAAGUAAAAAUAAGAAAUACAUUAAAAAAACUAAUAAUGUAUAUUAUGUUAAUAUAGCUUAAACUAAUGCAUGUUUACUAAAAUAAAAGGAUUUUUUAUUUAAAAAUUUAUUUGAACAUGCAAAAUCAAGAGUAGUAGUAGUAUGCAAAAUAAUAGCACUGAAAAGUAGUAAGAGUAGAAAUACAUGUAAUCGUAUAAUUCUAUUUUUCCAUAAUAAUAAUAAUAAUAAUCUAGCUCAUGUGGGUCACCCUAGGAUAGGACUCCUCCCAUAACACCCCUAUUUUCAAUCCAUUUAUAUUCUUAAUAGUUUGACUAAAUAAAAUUUUAAAUUCAAAAGUGUUGUAUUGAGAAAUCAAAUACAUUAUAAAGCUCAUCUAAUUAGGAACUUGACUGAGACAAAAUUUUAGAUUCAAAGGUGUUGUGUUGUGAAAUCAAAUACAUUAUAAAGCUCAUCUAAUAGUCACAACUUUUAGAGAAAGAAACAAUUAAAUAUACCAUGUGAUAGACAUAUAUGUCUUCCUCACUCAAAAAGUUUACUCAAUACCAACAUACAAAUCUUAUUUAAAACAAUAUUAGGUAGCAAAAUAUGUUUCAACAUUAGAAUAAGAAAUAACUCAAAUAGUGAAACAUAUUUAUGCUUAUUUCAUGCAAUUUGAUCAAUUGAGUUUUCUAAUGCUAGAAACAGCUCCUUAUUUCCCUUGACAACUUGAAUAAUACAAUUUAAGGUCAUUCUUCACUUCAAGCAUGCCACAUAUAACUUUUAUUACUUUAACAAUAGCCAGGCUUAUCUACUCUAGAUGUAACUUUAAAAAUGGCCUCUAACUGCAUAGUCAAAAAACAAGAUUUGGUUCCAUCUCUUAUCUUCUUUCUUAUUCUCUCAUUUUGCUAUGAAAUUUAUUUCCUUGGGGUUCUCCUACAAAAGUAUUCAAUUUAUUAUAUUUCACGACCAAAAUAUAAAUUAACCAAAUAAACUUAGUAAAUAAAUAAAAAUGUAUCAUCAAUUUAUUAUCCCACCAUUCAUUUUUAGCAUUAGUGGUUUCUCAUAGGAUCCCACCCAAGGCCAAUCUUUUUCUGAAUCAAGGCAUUCCAAAGUUGUCAAUCUUUUUUAAGAGAACUUAAUAUAUUCUUAGGUUGCUUGUAUUGGUAGGUUCUUCUAGUUAGAUUGUUGAAUACCUUUAUCAUUUUUUUCCAUCCAAUUUACUAAAGUGACUAUUUGGUCUAUUUUUAGCCAAAAUCUUAGCAACACAAACUGUGAGAUAUGCAUUAACAACAAUAUCAUUCAAUAUACUUUGCUUUAUUUAUCAUUUUCUUUACCACUUGUUUGUUGUAGUGGUUGAACUAUACUACUAGACAUCUAAUAACAAAGUAAAGAACAAAGAAGUAUUAAAAGAAAAUGUUGUCAAUGUACUUUUAUAUUUUAUAGUUUAGACAUCUAAUGAGACCCAUAAAAAAGUGAACCUUAAAGAAAUAGGUCAACUAGAGGAAAAUGAAUCUCAGAAUACUGAAUUGGAAAGACUCACAUUCAUGGAAUAAAUUAAUAUACUAUAUCAUAAUUUUAUUAAUUCUUUUCAUUAGGUUGCUAAAAGUUGAAAAAGAAUUCCUCAUGAAACAAAUUAAAUAAUUUCCUCAUGAAAGAAUCCAAUCAUGGCCUCAUUAUGAAGUAUUGAAUUAACUCAAAGAACUUAAAUAUUAUCUAAUAAAUUUUUUCAUGGGUUUGUUUUUAUAACUUUAAUGUUACCAAUAUAAAAGGAAAUGAAACAUGUUUUAAAUAAUGUAAGAAACUAUGGUAGAAACGUGGAAAGAUUUAAGGAUAAGAGGCUUUAUAUGAACUUUAAUAUUGUUAGUAACAGAGAGGCAAAUGAGAUAUCUCAAUAUUAAAUUAUGCAUAAUUAGUAUAAUUUUUUAAAACUAAAUGGAAGAGAAUUUAGGAGGAAAAUAAGUAAUUAGAGUAUGAGAUAACAUGAAUGGUUAAAAUUGCCAAUCAUUAAAUUUAAGAUAAUUGUUAAUUUUCCAACUCCAUUAAUUAAAGCAAAGAGGGGAAAUGAGUUGGAUUUCUUAAUAGUAUUAAGUGUUGGAUUGACACAAAAUUAGGGUGCUAGUGGACACUUGAAAUGAGGACAAAGUAACAAUUGCAGAUAGCAUUUUACUCAUCUAACAUAGUUAAAAUUUGCAAAACCCACUUCUUAUUUAGUACUUUUAUUGAAUAUAUGGGUAUAGUUUAACUUCGAAUCUAAUAUGAGUGUACUUUGAAUUUCCUAAAGCUUACAUAUAUCUUCACAUAUUAAAUCAAAGAGAAAAUAUUAACGUUUUUUACAAUUACAAUUUAUCAGGACUCAAGGUUUAAUUCCUAAACUUUUAAAGUGGGAAAAAGAAGUGUAAGGGAGAAAAAAGGAAAAGGAAAAGAAAGGAAAAACAAAAAGAAUAAAAAACUAUUAAAAGGCAUUAGAAGCCUAAGAUGGGCAUAUCCAUGAUUUGAGGUGCAAAUAGGGGUGACAAUUCAUGUUGGUGGAUAGUGUUUGUGUUGUGUCAAAGCCUAGGUAUUCUACUACAUAGCUCAACCCAACCCUGAUACUACUUAUAAUCAUAUAAAAAAUAUAAGCCUAAAUACUAUCUAAUUAUUAAACAAGUAACACAUUGUACAACCCGCUUAAUCUAUUUAAUAUUCAGGUCCUGCUAUUUAAUAAUCAAAUUAAGUUAGGUCUUCUAUAUGUCUAUAUGAUUAAUGCCUCAAUAAAAUAUGUUUUUGGCUCAAUUGACCUAUCUAUUUAGAAACAAAUUUAAAAUGAAUCAAAUAUGGGUCAAACAUCUUAAAAAUAUAAGUAAGUUAAUAGCAAGAUUAUUAAAUAGGUUAAUUUGGGUCAAAUUCGUAUUAUGCAGGUUGACCAAAAAAGUACUUAUUUAGUAAAUGAGUUAUGUAAGUCGACACAAAUUUUACCUAAACUCAUUUAUACUUGACCCAAACCCAUGAAAAGCAUGUUAGGCUUGUAUCAUGCUAGGAAUUGUAUCAAACUUUGUCAUUCCUAGGUGCAAACAACUCCAAGACCCUACUUUUAAGGAGAAUAUAUAUACUUGAGAUUGCUACAUGAUUACUACUCAAAAUGUGCACUUUUAUAAGCUUAAACUUAAUUGUACUAAGCACUUUUGAGUAGUAGUUAGACCUUUUUAUCCCAAUUGUCAUGUUAAGGACCUAGAAAAUGUUACUAACCAAUUUCUAGUAAGUUUUAGUGUUUUUGGUAGUUUUUUUAUCACUGAAGCAGGCCAAGAUUGAGGGAGAUUUUUGUGCAAGCUAUGGCAAGGCAAGUUAAAUAUCAAUCACAUGAAGAAUCCGAGCUUCGGAGCACUUCAAAACCCUUGCCAAACUUGGAAAGGGAUUGGAAAAGUUAUCAGUAGUAAGAUGGAGGAAAACAGAGCAUUUUGCAAGGCAAAAUCAUCAAUUUUGUAAGGCAGGGUGUGCCAAACUUUUGCAAGGUGUGCCAAAAUUUCGCAGGGUGUGCAAAAAUCAUUUUGUGCGCACCGACCUUCUGGAUUUUUCUCCAUAAUUGUAAUUGUUCCUUUUUACUCCUUUUGUAAUAGAUAAAAGACAUUAGGGUUUGUUUAGGAACUAUAAAUAGGGGUUCGAAAGCCUCUCAAAUGAUGUGAGAUAUUAUGUUUUAGAUAUUUUGUAAAGGAGUUUUGAAGGAAAUAUAUGGAAGUUUUUCUCGGCCUUUCCUUCUCAUUUUCUUUUCAUAUUCUCUCUAGCCAAACACCCUCUGAGGAUGAUUUCUCAGAGGAUGAGUGGCUAAGUUUCAAGUUUCUUGGAGUGAUGGAAGCUAGGUAAAGGACCUAGAUGCAAAGGUGGGAGUUUUCCUUACUUUAAAUGAAGGUAGUUGUGUAUCAUUAAUGGUUUAUAUUUCAAGUUUCAGCUUUAAUCCCUUAGAAUCACCUUGAAUGGCCAAUACUUGGUAAGCUUUUAAGAUUCUGUGGAUGCUUAUUGCUAGAUCCAUGGAUGUCCAUUAUUAUCAAGUACGAGCCAUUGGAAGAUGGUUCAAGGUGAGAGUCUUUAGUGUUUGAAGCCAUUAAUGGGAAGCAACUACCAUUUUUCAAUAACCCUUUGGAUCAAAACUUAUUUGCUAAAUACAAAUCCGGUUCGGGAGAUAACCAUCCUUUAUGUUAUUGUCCCCAAUCCGAGGAGAAGAUUCGGAAUUUCCCACUUUGCAACAGGAACCUGAUCCUAGUAACCUAUAGCUCCAAGAGACUUUCUCUUUGUAGUAAUUUCAAUUGUUUAUGUUUGCUUAACUUAAAACCAACCCUUCCAAUCAAUCUUAUUUUCAUUUAAAAACUAAAUUCCAAAAAGGAAAUCGUCAUUUCUUCUUUCAUUAAUGUUAAGUGUACAAAGAAAACCCAUCAUUGUGGACGAUCGUAGAGCCACUAUACUAUAGUAGCUUUGUCUUUGCUACCCUAGUAUAAGGUGUUGUAGUUUUUAUAAAUGUUUUGAUAAACACCCGGCUGGGCAUGAAUCACUACAUUAUUUAGACUAAUCCACACCUACUUAUUAAGGGAAAAAAAUAAAAGAGGACAAAGGUAGGGCACAAGAUGAUGAGACAAGGCACAAAAUGAUAAGACGUAGGAUGAUAAGAAUCCACUUCAAUUAAUAUUUCCCUAAAUCAAGAGUAAUCAAAUAUUAAAAUAUUUUAUUCUCCUAAUUUAGGAUAUAAUAUUUAUUCUAAAUAAAUCAAGAGCAAUCAAAUAUUAAUAAUAUUUUAUUCUCUUAAUUUAAGAAAUAAUAUUUAUUUUCCUUAAUUAUAGGAUAUUUAUUAUUUAUUUCUUCUAUAAUUCACAAUGCAUUCUUGUAUAAAUUUAUGAAAAGAAAUAAUAAAAAUUCAUCGCUUCUAUUAUCAAAUUAUCAAAUUCUUCUUGGUAUUAGAGAUAGAGGAGGAGACUCAAACUUGGGUUUUCUCCGAAGGUGGUUGAAUACCCUAAAAGACUUGACCUAUCCACACAAACAAUGUCUUCCUCUUCAUUCAUUCAAAAAUAAAAUAAAAUAAAAUAAAAUCCUUAGUGCUCUAGCUUUCCAUCAACAUUUUUUCUAAUUUGAUUUCAUUCAAGCUAAACACAACAAAUUUUCUACUAUGGGGAAAUCAAAUCAUCCUCUCAGCUUGUGGUUUCCGUGUUCAAACCUUUCAUCAAUGUUUUACCCUUUCAUUGGUGUUAUUUCUAGUUUGAUUUCAAUCAAGUUAAACACCAUAAAUUUUCUACUAUGGCAAAAUCAAGUCAUCCUCUUAGUUCAUGGUGUGUUCUCUGACAUUUCUUAGGUGGAGAAAAACCUGCUAAAGAAUUAAAGAUGAUGAGGAAAGCAAAAUUUUUAUCCUACAAUACUAGUAAUCAAUUAAUAAUAACAUAUUUGUCACUUCAUGAGUUAUCGAAACCAUGACAAAAGACAUUUUCAUUAUGAUCCUUGGGGCUAACAAGAUAUAUAAGGUAUAAACUUUUCUUAAGGAGUAAUCGCUUCCUAUUAUAGUUGAAAAAAAAAUGAUAUCUUCAAGAAUAGUUAAGAGAUAUAAACAAUAUAUAUUAUAAUCUCAUGAAAAUCAAAAGCUAAUUUCAGACCAAUACAAAGUUUGUUGAUUCACUCAUGGUUUAGGAUAAUGGAAUGAUUUUUUUUUUUAACCUACUAUGCUUUUCUAACCAAUUCAUGGCAACUCUUUAGGGACAUAAGCAAUCACUCACUACCAAAGGGAUGGAAAGAAAAUUUUUAUAGAGUAUUCACAAAUUUUUAUUUGGACAACAUAGUUAUGGUCAUAAUGGUUGAAAAGGCAUAAAUUUUAAUUUGAGGGGAAGAAGCUUUACACUUUCUAUGUAUUACAAUUCUUUAAAAAAAAUAAACUUUUAUGAUUUUAUGAAGUCCUUGUCAAAGGAUAUCUUCAUCAUGUUUUGAGAUAAGCUGGGGUGUGCAUAUUCUUUUCGACUCCAAUUUGAGCUUGCAUAUUAAGGGAAAUAAUAAAAUAAGAUAAAAAGCACAUAGGAUUGCAACAUGUAGGAUGAUAAAAAUCCGAUUCAAUUAAUAUUUCCAUAAAUCAAGAGUAAUCAAAUAUUAAAAUAUUUGAUUCUCCUAAUUUAGGAUAUAAUAUUUAUUUUAAAUAAAUAAUGAACAAUCAAAUAAUAAUAAUAUUUUAUUCUCUUAAUUUAGGAAAUAAUAUUUAUUUUCCUUAAUUUUAGUAUACUUGUUAUUUAUUUCUUUGUAUAAUUCAAAAUGCAUUCUUGUAUAAAUUUUCUAAAAGAAACAAUAAAAUUCAUCAUUUUCACUACCAAAUUAUCAAAUCCUUUACUAAUGACCUUAUGAUUAAAAUCUUGUUUGUUUGGUAAGUGUUAAGCAAAAUGCCUUAGUAGCUACAAACAUUAUGGAAGACGUGUGAAAGUUGUUGUGAACUGAGGAAGCUUAAGAAUCUGUUAAGAAGGUUGCUGAGGUGUGAAGAGAUGUUGAAAUUGAGGCUGCAACCAUAAAACAACUUAGUCAAUGAAGUUGUUAUGCUAUUGUUGCUGUUGUUGUUAAAAUCUUGUUUCAUGGAGUUGUUAUGUUGUUGUUGUUAAAAUCUUGUUUCAUGGAGUUUUUAUGCUGUUGUUGCUAUUAUAUAGGAAAUAAUUGUUAGUUCCAACUAUUUUUGCUACUUUUCUAUUGUUUUCUGUUGCAAAUUUGUGUAUAAAUGUUGCAUUGAUCAUUCAACAAGAGUAGACAUUUUCGUUGUCUCAAAUACAACUUUUGGUUGUUACUUCCAACAUUUCUAGAUUCUAAAACCUAUAGAUUAGUAUCAGAGCCUUCAAUGUUGAGGAACAUGUGAGGAUUGAGUGAAGCCAAAAUACCUUCACACAUACUGAAACUCCAAAGCCAACAUAAACACACAACCUUUGACAGGUUGUAACUAUCAUUCUACAACAAAUGGAUGGAGAUACAAGCUUUCUGUUAGUACCAGUUUUCAAUGGUGAUAAUUAUCAGGCGUGGGCUAUUAGAAUGACAGUCCACCUUGAAGCUUUGGAUCUUUGGGAAGUAGUAGAAGAAGAUUAUGAAGUACCACCACUUGGAGACAAUCCAAGUAUCAAUCAAAUGAAGAUUCACAGGGAAAUAAAAACAAGGAAAGCCAAAGCCAAGGCUUGCCUCUUCUUUGCAGUUUCACCUUCUAUUCUCACCAGAAUCAUGCAAAUAGAGUUUUUUAUAGCAAUCCGGGAGUAUCUAAAAAAUGAGUAUUGGGGGAAUGAAAGGGUGUAGAAUAUGCAGGUAAUGAAUUUAAUAUGAGAAUUUGGAAUGAGCAGAAUGAAAAAGUCUCUAACUAUCAAAGAUUAUGUUGAACAACUGCUUAGCAUAGCAAACAAGGUAAGAUUGUAUGGUAAGGAAUUUUCUGAUGAAAGAAUUGUUAAGAAAAUCUUAGGAACUCUGCCUGAAAAAAUAUGAAGCCACAAUCUCUUCCUUGGAAAACUCUAAAGAUCUGUCAAGUAUAUCUUUGGUAGAAAUUGUUAAUGCUUUGCAGGCCUUGGAACAAAGGAGAAUGAUGAGACAAGAAGGAUAUGUUGAGGGAGCAUUCUAAGCCAAAUCAAAGAACAAUGAUUCCAGCAAAGACAGAAAGAAAAACAAGAAAUAGAAGUCAAGCAAUAACAAAAUGAAUCAGAAAGGAGCUGAUCCACCUUGCCCUUAUUACAAAAAAACAAAUCAUCCUCCACAAAAGUGUUGGUGGAGGCCAAAUGUCAAGAGCAACAAUUAUGGUCAAUUAGGCCAUAUGGAGGAGGUAUGCAAAAAAAAAAAAAAAAAAAAAAACAAACAAGGAGAGAUCAAGGCUACAAUUGUUGAUCAAUAUCACGAAGAACAAUUGUUUGUUGCCACCUGUUUUUCCAGCAAAAACAUGUUUGAAAGUUGGCUCAUAGAUAGUGGUUGCACAAACCACAUGACUUAUGAUCAAGGACUUUUUAGGGAACUCGAUAAAAUAACCGUUUCCAAAGUAAGAAUUGGAAAUGGGGAAUACAUCUCAGCAAGGGGCAAAGAGGUUGUUGCCAUUGAAAGUCUCUCAGGUUUGAAACUUAUCCCCGAUGUUUUGUUUGUUCCUAAUAUUGAUCAAAAUAUCUUGAGUAUUGGGCAGCUACUUGAGAAAGGUUUCAAGGUGCUAUUUGAGGACAAGUUCUGUAUGAUUAAGGAUGCAAAUGGAAAAAAUGUGUUCUAGAUCAAGAUGAGAGGCAAAACCUUUGCCUUGAAUCUGCUUGAGAAAGAGUAGGUUGUUAUUUCUCAAGAAAAUAAUGUCACAAUUUUAUGGCAUAAGAGAUUGGGGCACUUUCAUCAUAAUGGAGUGCUCUACAUGAAGAAUAAUCAACUUACAGUAGGUCUACUUGACCUAAAGCAAAAUCUUCCUACUUGCAUAGCCUGUCAGUAUAGAAAACAAUCCAGACUUCCUUUCCCAUAGAAAUCUACAUAGAGAUCAUCACACAUGCUGCAACUUGUACACAUUGAUGUUGGAGGACCUCAGAGAACACCAUCUCUAAAGGGCAGUAAGUACUACAUUGCCUUUAUAGAUGAUUACACCAGAUAUUGUUGGAUUUUUUUCCUAAAUUUUAAAUCUGAGGUUGCUGAUGUAUUUUGGAAGUACAAGGCCCUAGUAGAAAACCAAAGUGGUGUCGUCUUGUAGGUUAUAAGGACAGAUAAUGACACUGAAUAUACUUCUGAAAUAUCCAACAAUUUCUAUGAAGAAGUAGGCAUAAAGCACCAACUGACUACACUUUACAGACCACAACAGAAUGGAGUGGUGGAGAGGAAGAAUAGUGGAGAGGAAGAAUAGGACUAUAAUGGAGAUGACAAGAUGCCUUUUGCAUGAGAAAGGGCUACCAAAAAAGUUUUGGGCUGAAGCCACAAACACUAUAGUGUUUCUACUGAAUAGACUCCCAACCAAAGCUUUUAAAAAAAAGACUCAUUUUGAGGCUUGGUUUGGAUAUAAACCUCUAUUAUUAAACUUAAAAACAUUUGGUUGCCUUUGUUUUAGUUAUGUGCCUUAGGUGAAACAAGACAAGUUAGAUAAAAAGGCAGAAGUUGGGAUCUUCGUAGGAGACAACAACCAAUCAAAGACUUAUAGAGUUAAUAUGCCUCAUGCUAACAAAGUCAUUGUUAGCAUAGAUGUCAAAUUCAUGGAGGAUGAUAAAUGGAGUUAGGAUGCUAAAAAAAAAAUUAGAAUUUUGAGUUACUUGACGAAAAUAUUGAUGACAUUCCUAUAAGAAGCACCAAAUCACUUUUUGAUAUUUAUCAAAUGUGUAAUGUGGUUGUGUUUGAGCCUGUAGGGUUUAAUGAAGUUGUUGAGGAUAAAAAAUGAAGGGUUGUAACGUGGGAGGAGCUUAGAAUGAUAGAGAAAAACAACACUUAGGAGCUAGUUGAUAGACCAACACAUAAAAAGACCAUUGGUGUCAAGUGGGUUUAUAAAACCAAACUCAAUUCUGAUGGUUCUGUAAACAAACAUAGAGCCUGGCUGGUUGUCAAAGGUUAUGCUCAAAUGUUCGGUGUGGAUUUUUCAUAAACCUUUGCACCUGUAGCUAGGUUGGAUACAAUAAGGAUGCUGCUAGCUUUGGCUGCUCAAAAUGGUUUGAAAAUCUAUCAGCUAGAUGUAAAAUCAGCUUUUCUAAAUGGCUACCUUGAGGAGGAAAUCUUUGUAGAGCAACCUGAAUGAUUUGCAGUAAAAGGCAAAGAAGACAAGGUUUAUCAACUAAAGAAAGCCUUGUAUGACUUGAAGCAAGCCCCCAGAUCUUGGUACAACAGGAUUAAUGCACAUCUGCUUGGUUUGGGGUUAAAAAAAGUCAGAGUGAAUCCACACUUUAUAUUUGAAAAAUUAAUGCUGGCAUACUUAUUAUUUCAUUAUAUGUUGAUGAUUUGCUUGUAAAGGAAGCAAUCAAUUUUUAAGCUAAAAUAGAGAAGGUCUUUGAGAUGAAAGAUCUUGGAGACAUGUCUUAUUUUCUGGGAAUGGAAGUCCAUCAGAAUCAGCAUGAGAUAUUCAUCUAUUAGCAAAAGUAUGCAAAGGAAAUUCUAAAACAGUUCAAGAUGGAGGAAUGCAAGGCCACAUGCACACCUAUGAAUCAAAAAGAAAAGUUUUGAAAAGAAGAUGGUGCUAAAAAAGUAAAUAAAGAGUUAUACAGAAGCAUGAUUGGAUGUUUGAUGUAUUUGAGUACAAGAAGAACAAAUAUAAUACAUGUUGUAAGUCUACUCUCAAGAUAUAUGCAUUGUGCUAGUGAAAUUCACUUGUAGGUAGCAAAACGUAUUGUGAGAUAUAUAAAAAACACUAUCGACUUUGGCAUCAAGUUCAAGCAGGUGCAGAAUUUUCAUUUUCAUGGAUUUUAUGAUAGUGAUUGGGUUGGCUGCAUUGAUGAUAUGAGAAGCACAUCAAGUUAUUGCUUUAGUUUUGGUUCAAGUUUUUUUCUCUUGGUGCUCUAAAACAUAGGAUAUCAUGGCAUAAUCCAUAGUUGAAGCAGAGUACAUUGCUACUGUUGCUGCUGCAAAUUAAGCACUUUAGAUAAGAAAGCUACUAACAGACUUAAACAUGGAGCAAACUAGGAGCACACAAGUCUUUGAGGACAAUCAAGCUGCAAUUUCAAUUGCAAGUAAUCCAGUAUUCCAUGGUAGGACAAAGCACUUCAAAAUCAAGUUUUAUUUCUUAAGGGAAAUACAACUUGAUGGAGAAGUAAUUUUGGUACAUUGUAAAACAGAAGUAAAAAAUGUUAAUAUUCUAAAAAAAGCUCUACCAAAAGCUAGGUUUGAAUUUCUCAGAAAAAGACUUAAAGUUUGUAGCUCCCAAGUCAAGGAGGAGUGUUAAGCAAAAUACCUUAGUAGCUAUAAUCAUGUUGGAAGACGUGUGAAAGUUGGUGUCAACUGAGGAAGCUUAAGAAUUUGUUAAGAAGGUUGCUGAGGUGUGAAGAGAUGCUGAAAUUGAGGUUGUAACCAUAAAACAACUUAGUCAAUGAAGUUGAUAGAGUUUCAUGGAGCUGUUAUGCUGUUGUUGCUAUUUUAUAGGAAAUAGUUGUUAGUUCCAACUAUUUUUGUCGCUUUUCUAUUGUUUUCUAUUGCAAACUUGUGUAAAAAUGUUGCAUUGAUCAUUCAAUAAGAGUAGACAUUUUCGUUGUCUCAAAUACAACUUUUGGUUGUUGCUUCCAGCACUUCUAGAUUCUAAAACCUACAGAUUCUAUGAAUUUUAAUGAUAUUCCAUCAUUUCUAGGUCUCUCAAACCUUCAAUUUAGUAGGGUUACAAAACAUAGCAUCUCUAUUUGGCAUUUCAUCAAACGCCUUUCUCACUUUUUCUUGAUCCACAUGGGCAUAAAUCACUCUCAACUAUUAACACAAACAACAUAGAUUUUAGCUAAUUACAAACCAAAUUGAUAUAUCACCCCUAGUAGUUGUAAUUUCCUUCAUUAAUUGCCUUCCCAUUUCCACAUCUCUUUUUUUACGCAACCCAUAAAAAAAUUUCAUGAAAUUUGAGUCUAGGUAGGAGAAAGCACGAAUCUCAGUGCACAAAAAUUUGAUUUCAAUCAUUCACAAAAAAAAAUUAAUUUUAUGGAAAAACAUUAAAAUAGUAAAAUAACAAAUUGAGAAGGACUUUCUAAGAAAAUAUAAUCAAAGGAAAACAAGGUAAUCAAAAGACUCAUAUAAUGUUUUACUUCCAUUUUCUAAGUAACUAAAUAGAAAUGUUGAAAUGAAAGUACCUCCAACUAUGGAUGUAAAGAGUCAUUGUUAAUGAGAAAAUGGUGAGAAUUGGAAUCAUGAAAAGUGUAGAAGAAGACUGUUUGGACUAUGGAGAGUGAAGGAGAAAGAGAAUGCUUGUUGAAAAGGAAAGAGUGGGUUAUUGGGUAACACUUAAGGUUAUUUUAGGUAUAUUUGAAAAUUUUAAAAGUAUUUUUUUUUUAAAUAAUCAGCUCUUAAGUGCUUUUCUAAAAAUUACUUCAAGUGAUUUUUUUCUUUUAAAGGUUUUUAAAAGUGUUUUUGAAAUCUUGCCAAACAUCUAUUUUUCACCCAAAAAAAAACUCUUUUAAUUAUUAAAAAUGCUAGACACUCUUCUUAAAAAUACUACUAAACAAGUUCUUAAUAGGAUUUUAUUUAUUAUCGCAUGUUUCUUAGUCUUUAACCAAGGAUAUGUCUAUACUUCAAAAUAAAAGAAGGGACACAAUUUUAUUCUAACCAUCCUUCAACCUUAUUUUCUUUAAAUAUCUACUAAAAUGGGAUUACUAUGAUUUCACCCCAAUUCCAACUCCCUUUUCUACAAAAAGUAAAACUAAUUUUUUGGGAAUACGUAUGCAAAGGUAAUGGCAUAGAUGAAGUUGUAAAUGGAGAUUAAUGGAAGUGAUAGAAACGGGAUUAUGCUAGGGUUUUAGAGCCAAAGAGGAUGGGUUGGUGAUGGUGGGUCUUAAGGGAAGUGAUAGAGAAGUUGGGAAUUAAGGUUAGAUUUAAGGUUAAGGUUAGGGCUAGGGUUUCAUCAAUGGAUGGUGAUGAAGAUGAAGAUAUGGACAUCCCUUGCAAAAUCUACCAAUAUAAUUAGUUUCUACUAUAUAAUCAACUAAAAUUGGAAUCAAUUCUCCUUCUCAAACUAUGAUAAUAUGACUUUAGAUGGUUUUUGAUAAUGAUUUCUUUUCCUCUCAAUGAAACUAUAGAUCAAUUAUAUGUUUCAACCCAAAUAAGGGAUCCUUAGAAUCCCUUAAUCUUUAGUUUCUAUUUAGAUUAAGGAAUAAGAGAUCCCUAAGAUCUUUUAAUCUUUAAUUUCUAUUUAGUUUCCUAUAUAAAAUAAGAAGAGUGUAAUGGGGAAAGAAAUGGAAAAAUAAUCUCAAUAUGAAAAAUUGGUUCUCUCAAUUUUGCAUCUUCUCUUUGAGUCAUAAGAAUUGGUGUUAGAACACGAUCUUGGCACCAAUCAUGGAUGAAGGGACUAGAGUGUAAGAACAACAUAGACUUGAAGAUACUAUUAAAUAGUUGAAAAAAUCAUUGGAUAAACAAGCGACUACCUCAUUAGAACUAUCAAAGAUGGUUGCAACCAUAAACUUGAAAUUUAAACACAUGAAUUCAAGAAUAGAGAAGUCAAGUAAUGGGUACAAUGCCUCAAUCAAUAGAAGCAAGACAAACUAUCAUUCAUAUGGCAUAAACUCCAUUCAAUCCAGGUUUUCCAAACUCAAAUUUCAAAAUUUUGGAGGUGAGAAUUGGGAAUUAGGAAAAGGUAGGAUUGGCUUCAUUACAUUUAAAAGGAAGGGCCUUAGAAAGGUUUCAAGGGUACAAGGCUAGUAACAAGGAAAUCAACUGGACACAAUUUUAUAUAGUUGUUGUUUCUAGGUUUAGCCCUAGUGUUUAUGAUAGCCUUAUGAGGUAAAUAACCAAAUUGAAAUAGGUUUAUACGAUUAUGGCAUACAAAAAUUAGUUUAAAGUAUUGAUGACCAAAACUAAUGGGUUAUCAAAGGAAUUUUUUGUCUAGUAUUUCAUUAGUAUCUUGAAAGAGGCAAUUAAAAAUCAAGUCACCAUGUUUCAACCGAUCACACUAGCCCAAACCAUCGAAUUAGUCUUGUUGCAGAAAUGAAUAGUGGAAGUAAUUCUCAAGGAAGUCAAGGACUCUAACGAAAGUGAGGAUAGUACAAUGAACUUUACAAGAAUCAUAAUGAAUCAUAAUAACAAAUUACCACCCUUAAGAAGAUUUCAGUUGUAGAAGUGCAAGAGAGAUGAAAAAAAUGUUUUGUUAUUAUUGUGAUGAGAAGUAUAAGUCUGGCUAUAUAUAUAAAAUGAGACAAUUUUUUCUACUAAAUGGUCAUAGAAGUGAAGGGAAAGCAACGUGUGAAGCUAAAAAUGAUAUCAGGAGGAUGAUCUUAUGGCUUUAAUAAAUGCAAUAUUUGGUUCAACAUCUCAUCAAACCAUGAGAAUCUGUGGCAACAUAAAAAGGAAGGUCGUGACCAUACUAAUUGACUUAGGAAGAACCCAUAACUUUCUUGAUCUCGUAGUGGCCAAAAGAACAAGAUGCUCAAUACAAACUACCGACCCCAUGAAGGUGGCAAUAACAGAUAGAACUAGAAUUACUAGUGAUGCAAUUUGUCAGCAAUGAUAGGAUAGAACCCUUAAAAGCAUGACAUAAUGUAAUAAACUGGGAAUUCAUUAUUUAUUCAAUGAUAUUCCAAUUUCAGUUUUAUCUAUCCUUAUUCCAUGUAUUAUACUUUAUGAACUUUUUUGUCCGCAUCUUUUGCAUUAUAUGUGACUUAGGUGGAUCAGGAGUUGCAUAGAAGAUCUAAGUCAUGAGUUCCUUGUAAAUAGAUGACUAGUUCACAACCAAUUUAUGGGUCUAGGCAAUCCAUUAGAGGUUUCGGUGCACCACUUCCUAAUUAGAGGGAUAACUGGUCUUGGCUAUUAGGAUGAGUUUUACUAAUAUGUAUGGAUGCACAUUGGGCAGGACUGAUUAUAAGCUUAAGGCUAUCAAGUAGUCAUGACUUCACCAAGUUGUUUCAUUAUGUUGUUUCUCAACCUUGAGAGAAUAUUGCAUUUGUGUAGAAGUUAGCAGUGCUUUUGAUCUACGGGUAAAAUCGUAAGCUAAUCAUAUGCUCUUUAUGGAUUGGAUCACUAUUGACGGAUGCCAGUAGCAAUAAGUAUUCUAAAUAGAGACACCAUGAUAUCUCUUAGGAAUAAGACAGUGUGUAUCCUUGGGUGAUCCUAAGGAGGUGUGUUCAUGGAAACUAUGGUCAUAAUAGUUCCUUAUGUGGAACUUGACAUAGGCUCUUUGAAAGUUAAGAUAUGUCAAUUGAAUACACAAUAGGAGAAUCUGUAACUCAAGGAUGGUAGAGGUAGUCUUAAAAAGCUUAUAGCUUUCACUUUAUUAGACUACGAACACCAAUUCAUGGGGAGACUAAACAUAAUGGAUAGCAAGUCAUGGACUCGAGCACUUGGUGUCUUAUUAUUAUUUACAUAGGAUAUUUGAGUUCAAUUGAUUCUCUAUAGUGGGAUGUUGAAUCCACUUUAGAAUUGGAUUAUGAGAGAACUAGUAUUUCUAUAGGUCCUAGUGGUCUUUGUUUUGAGCUCAUAUACCUUGUUGGCACUGAUUAUGAGGGUCAGAUUGGCUUUAGGUUCACUUUUGUACAUAAAGGUGUUUUGGUAAUCACACAAGGUUGCACAAAGGUAAGUGAGCAAAGUCUUUGGAUUAGGCUAAUUGAUUAAUUAGUAGGCCCUAUUGGGUUAACUAAUCAAUUAGGACCCAUUUUGGGAUAGAUUAAGUGACCUAAGCCCUUAGUGAACUCAAGUCACUUAAGUCUAAUAGGAAACCACAUAAAUACCCCCUUAGGGGUUAGGGUUCCCAUUGCUUUUUCUAGAGAUCCAUAUUCCAUCUCUAGAGAGAGAGAGAGAUUCAUAGCAUGUACUCUUCCUUCUAUCCCCACCAGAAGUGUGUCAAGAUCAAGUUUCGAGUCAUUUGGCGAAAGACUUCGGGUUUAUGAGACUUCUACGAUUUCAUUCUUCAUCUUCACCAUGUAGAUUUGAUUCACAAACAUCCGAAUCUAAGGUAUGGAUUUUGUUUGCACUUUCUGAAUCCCUUUAAAGUUUAAAAAUGUUAUUUUUCCGUUGUGCAAAGGAUUUAGAAAAAGCCUAGGAUAGUUAUGCAUAUUCCUAACUUGAUCCGAUCUUAGGAAACAAAGAGAUCCUAGUUUUUCCCAUUAGGCAAUUGACAUGGAACAUGCAAGGGAAGAAAUUUUAGAUAGAUUUGAGGCUCAUCCUUUUGAGUGGGUGCGAUAUGGUAUUGGGAAUUCAAUGGCCAACUGAAUUGGGACUCAUAUUGUGGGAUUUCAGGAAUUUUAAAUUUGAAUUUAUUGUUGAUGGAAGGAAAUUCGUGUUAAGAGGUACAACUAUAGGUCCUAAGAAGUUAGUUUCAACUAAUGAAAUUCAAAAUUAUUGAAGGCAUAUGUCUCAAGCAUCUACAAUUCAAAAUUUCACUAUACAAGGGAAUGAGGAAAAUAAAGUUGAAAAUGAACAACAUGGCAGCUGUCCAACUCAUUUCCAAAUAAUGUAACAUAGAAAGAUGCUUACUUUCAACAAAAGUUUCCAUAGUUUCAACCUUGAGGACAAUGCUUCUUUUGAUGGGGGAGAGAAUGUUACAACCCUGAAUAAAGGAUCCCUGGGAUCCCUUAAUCUUUAGUUUCUAUUUCUGUUUAGUUUCUACUUCUAUUUAAAUUGGGGAAUAAAGUAUCCUUAAGAUCCCUCAAUCUUUAGUUUCUAUUUCUAUUUAGUAUCCUAUAUAAAAUAAGAAAAGUGUAAUGGAGAAAAAAAUGAAAAAAAAAUCUCAAUAAGAAAAAUUUGUUCUCUCAAUUUUGUAUCUUCUCUUCAUAUCAUAAAAUUCUACAUGUAGAUUUUCUCCUUCUAAAUCUCUAUAUGAUACAAAAUCAAUUCUUUUUUACUCCAAUUCCAAGUAUGUAUUUAUAGAAAUAGGUAUGCUUUGACUCUCAAUGAACACAUUUUUUCAAUUUUUCUACCUACCUAAGUGGAAAUAACAUAAGGUAACUAAACUUGCUUUGAGAUUAAUUAUGGUUUUGACAAUACAAAACUAGGUAUAGUACAAGACCUCCUAAACAAAGUUUCUAGCAUUAAUGAAUUCAAAAGAAGCUGGGUAAAACAAGUUUCUACUCACCAUCCCAAACAUCCCUUUAGAUGUAUUGUAUGAUAGAGGAUUAUUCUUUUAUUAUUAUUAUUAUUAUUAUUAUUAUUAUUCUUUUUUCUUUUUCCUUUUAAUGGUUUGGAGCAAAUUCAAAUGGCAUUAUAGAAGUAGAAUUUCCUAAUUUAAUUUGUUGGACAAAUUUGUUUUGGUUUUGCUAUAUUUUAUGUUUUGAAUACAUAGAAAUUGAAAUAUAAUAAGAUAACAAUUAUAAUGUAUUUUUAAGGGGAAAAUGUUUUUAUCUUCUAUAAUUAAAAAAAAAAAAAAAACAACAACAACAUCAACAACUACAAUAAUAUAGACAUUUGCAAUUUUUUUUAAAGUGUCUUUGUUAGGACAUUGAGUUCUAUUUGUAUGUUGGCAAUUUUGUUCCGAUUUAUUUUUUGCCUUAGAAAUCUUUUUAGAUAGUGACUUACUUUCCAUUGAAGAUCAAGGAUUGCUACUUGUCCAACUGGAAAAUCACAGGCAUGUCUAAAAGAUUUGACUUGUAGCAAAUUAGGGUUCUAAAAGGUAUAAAGAGGAUCGUUAUUCUUUUUUUUUUUGGAAUAAAAUUGAUUUUUAUUUAUCUUUGUCAAAAAGGCAGGAUUGCUCAAGCAAGGAAUAACACUCAAGCGUUAGGAUGCUCGAGCACUUGACUAGCGCUCGAAUGCCCGAGUUGCUUAAGUGAUGGUUAAGUGGACUCGGCCUCGAGCUCUCGAGCAUUCAUACCAAUUCUACCAAAGAUUAGCAUAAUAUUUUUGGAGAUUUCAUGCAAAUCCUUUCUGGAAACCUUGAGAUACCGACUCUCUUCAACCUUUAAGCCUAUAUGUACCCCAUUAUGGCCAUUCUAAAGUUAGGAGAUUGAUUUAUUGUCGUAAUUGAUAGAGAGUCUCCUAAAUAGAAAGCCUAAUGAACCACACGAUUCCUAAUCUCUCAUUUGAAGGAUAAUCUAGGGUUGAAAACUUGCAUCCCUUCAGUAAGGUUGAAGAGUACUCAGUGGAGUAAUUAGAGAUUAUUGCAUCACAGACGUCAAUGAAGUUGUAGGUAUUAGAGGGUAAGUCUUUAGGAUAAAACGACGAGGUAAAUUUGUGUAACUUGAUCUUGUAUAGUGGAUUUUGAUUAACAAUCUUAGACCUCGUGGUUUUUUUAUCUCCACAGUAGUGCAUGGAUUUUCCAUGUAAAAAUCAUUGUGUCCAUUGUUAUAUCUUGUGAUUAUCAUGAUUGUUUGGAUUUUUUUUAUCUCUAAUAUUAUCUCAUAGGGUAAAAAUUGAGUAUAACAUAUAAUCUUUUUUUUAGAAUUCUUUUAAUUACACCCAUUCACCCCCCUCCUCUCUUUGGGUGUUACCCUACUAGACUUGGCUUUUUCAGUCUCAAAUACUACAAUAGCAUUUUUUUACUUAAGUUAUAAAUGGAAAAAGUUAUAAACCCAAGAUAACUUGCUAAAAAAGUGAGAAAUAAUAAAGGACUCGUGUUAGAGUAUAAAUAGUUAAUCUAUUCUAGGCUUAAUAUAGCUCCAAUGUCAAACAUGAAUACUUAAUUAUUUAUUAUAUUUUGAAAAUAAAGUAAGUAUUUUUUAUAUAAAAAAUGAAACAACUUUUCUAGAACAACACAAGGCACUAAUGCAUAUAGUUGGUAACAAGUUGGAGAAAGAAAAUAAUGUGGAGAAAUAAAACAACAUGUAGAAAGAAACAAAAUGGAGAGAAAGAAAAUGACUAACAAAAAAGAAAAUAGAGAAAUUAUAGAAAAUAAGAUAAUUAAACUUAUUUUCAUAAAAAUAAUAUAUUUUCGAAAAAUAGAAAAUUUCAUUCAUAUUCUCUUUUUCACUUAUUUUAAAAAUAAAAGUAAAAAUUAAUAUUUAUCAAAUAUAUAAGAUUAAGAUUGAGAUAUAAACUUUUUAUAAUCUAAACUAUUAUUUUCAUUUUAAACAAGAAAGUUCGAUGUGACAUAAUAAAAUUUGUACACAAAAUUUAAAUUAUCUCUAUUCAUAUAGAAUUAUAUAUAGGUAUAGAUUCAUUUCAAAAUUCGAAUAAUUAUUUGAAUUUUACAUUUAAAUUUUAUUUUAAAAUUUAAAACUUAAUUAUUUUGUAAUAGGGUAUGUGUCAUAAAAUUGAAGCUUAUAUAUAUAAAUGCCUCCACUUCCAUACCUCUCAUAAAAUUGGAGCCUACUUUUUUUGUUUUCUUUUGUGUGUUUAUAAAUGUCUCAAAUUCCAUAUCUAGUUGUGAUAUAGUUUUGUAGAUGAUUGUGAUUGAAGUAUACUUUCUUUUGAUAUGUUUCCCUCCAUACAAAUCUAUUUAAAAGAAAAAAAAAACACAAAGUGUGGACCCCGCAUUUCGGCUCAUGCGUUUCCCACUCGAUGGUGAAACUCGCUUUUUAAAUUAAAAAAUGAUUUUUUGUUGUUGAUUAAGAAAAAUGACUUAGAGUCGCCACUUAUUUUGUUUUAUUUUUAAAGGGUAAACAAAAUAAGAAAGAAAACCCUAAGUGUAACUCCUUAUUUCGGAAAAGGUGAUAUGUGAAAAACCGGAUCGGGUUUGGGGGUUAGGUUACUUAUCAGGAAGGUACGGUAAAAAAAAAACCGUAGCACCCUUCUAAGCCCCUAAAACGGGUCUCUUCUAAUAAAAUGAAGCUGACAUGGCCAUUGAUGAGGAAAUCAAUGAAUACCCGGAACUAUCAUGCACAUAUGAGAAUCAGAAUAUACGUAACGAAUGAUCAGAAUGAGUGAAUGCGUACCUGGGCAGCAAACUGCAACGCGCUAUCAUGUGUGGACCCCGCAUUUUCGACUCAUGCUCGAAUGCGUUUCCCACUCGAUGGCGAGCUCGAUUUUGCCAAUUGAUGAAUAAAUCAAUGAAUACACAGAGUGAUCUUGCACAUGUGAGAAUCAAAAUAUGCAUAUAGAAAUACCAGAAUGGGAAUAGAUGCGUACCUGAGCGACGAACCACUAGGCGCUAUCAAGAAAGAGGGUUAGUGCACAAUUAAGGACUAAUAACAUGCAUGUAAGAGAGCAGGAUAAAUCAAUCAUGUAUCAUAAUCAAAUCAAAUCAAUCAGUCAAUCAAUCAAUCGGUCACAUAUGUGGGGGCCCCCACCAAAGCCCGUUUAUUUUGCAUGAAUUAAUUCCAAUAACUCCAUUACUUGGAAUUACGGAAUUUAAUCCUUGCUUAUUUAAAAACAUUUUAAAAUCCGGGAAGUCUUGAAAGUUGCAUGCCGAAGAGAGGUGGCAUCAAAUUUUAUUGAAAAACAGGAUUUUUGGAACUCAAAGGAAACGUAAGGAUGAAAGAUGGAAAUUAUUUAAAUUAUUUGAAAACCGACAUAAAAAAAAAUUAUUUGCAAGAAAGGUAUCAGGAAAUUAUUUUUUUAAGCCAAAAGAUUGAGGGAAUGGGAGGUGACACGUGGCCCAAAAGGUGGCCAUGCAGCUGGGUGUAUAGAGUAGAUGGCAAGUGGACCCCUGAGUCAUUUUGUUUGACAAACAGCUUGCUGUUGUAGUCUGCAUCCAUAUUGAUAAUACCCAAACUUGGAGCGCUGACCUUAUUUUUCAUUGGAGACAUCAAAUGACGUGUUUCAUGGUGGUGAGGCACGUACACUGCUGCAAAAUGGGUGACUUUGCUCCUAUGACUCAUGUUUUCUCCUCUUGAGUUGUUCAUCUGGGAAUAUACAAUAAUUUUCCAGCACAAACAUUCAGAAUCUGGAUUCCUUUCACUCAAUUUAUCUGCUACCACUUCUGAUAUAUUCAGCUCGAACCAGGGUCGUUCAUGUUCUCGGUAUAUUUCCCUUAUACCCUGGUCAACAUGGAAUUCGCGGAAACUGCUUGGUUGAUCUGCAUUAAAUGGAAUUAGUGAGCUCAGUGAUAGCAAAUCUAGCUCAGCACUUGCUGCUAAUUGCCUUUGUUCGCGCAACUCCCUUCCUUUUGAAGGUCGUUACUUCCACCUCGAGCCAAGCCAGUCUGGAUGUCUCCCCUAAUUGAGCAUUCAGAAUACUCAAAGAAUCUAGACUGCGACAGAUGACCUGUCUGACCUUCGCAUGCUAUGUGCUUGCUGCACUGAGCUUUGCUCCACCGUUGAAGGCGACGCUGGAGGUAGCAACGACACAGGUCUGAAUGACGGUGUUCUCCUGCCUUAUGAAGGGCUGCUUAGGGAAUUGGAAAACUCACAACCACUUAAAGUUCCAAAUUGACUGCCACCAUUCGAAACUAAGCCUUCAUCUGAUUCAAAAAUGUCUCGGCUUUAACAUCCAUUAGAGCCUUUGUCCUGAUGUUAAUAGAAUCUGGAUCAUAUUGCUCAGAAAAAGAUUUCGGUGCUUUGCUUCCCCCAGAGAACCCAGCUAUCCUUGAAAACUUUGUCUCAUAUUGAAUUCCCAAAACAACCAGUGGGAUUGCUACAGCUGGACCAUUUCCCCUUUUGACCAACGUGGCUGUUAAAGCUGGAAGAUGAGGUCAGAGGUGUUCCAUGAUAUCCUUGUUCGAGAUCCCUUAACAUUCAUUCCAACAGCUACCGAUUUGCACCCUUCAGUAGACAUUGCUCGGGUAAGGACUGUAGCAUAGGCGGUACCAUCUCUUGCCACAUUAUUAAUGGUAUUUGCAACCUAUUUUGCAAGGCUUGCACAAAUAUUCUUGACUGUAGCAUUAAGCCUCGAACUUCAACCCCGAAUCUGAUGUCUUUAGCAGUAUGGUUCCUGCCCUAGUUCAGCCUACUACCGAUAUGAUGGGUGUUGUGCCAAGUGGUCUGAACCUUAGGAGCAAGACUGGUGACGAGUGUGAAGGUGAUGGGUGAUGUUCACUUGCACCAUGCCCUUUUCUAAUUGGAGAUAUCACCAAUAUAAAGCAGGGUGGAUUUUCUGAUGAGAGAUUUCUAUGUCCUAGAGUGGUUCAUGUCGCAUGGGCAUAGGGAUUAAUGAAGGGGCAUGAUGAUGCCAGACGGGUAUGAGUUGUUGAUAACGGAUGUGAGGGAUAGUAGGCUCUACUAACAGAUGAACAAUGUCAUGCAAGCCUUGCACAACAAAAUGCGGAGAGCACAGUACCCGAGAAUACUUCCUUUGUCCCCUUCAACUCAUUUUCUGCUUGAACACUUCCUCUUCCUCUCAUCCUUAGAUGACAUCUCUUCUUUCAAAGGUAUCUCUUCUCUCAAAACCCAUAUAAUGAACAAGAUCCAGGAACAGAGGUGGCCUCAACCAUGAAAAGAAAUGCAUGAAAACAGAGCACAAAGGGAAACAAAUAUAAAGGUCCUCAAAGGAAGAUUCACAUCAUGAGUCAUCAGUGAACCUUCCUAUUAGGUGAGGAAAAACAGCAUCAAAUGCAAACAUUGGUGGGGUUCUCGGGCAUUUCAUAGUCACAAAUAGAAACAGAACAUAUUAAGAUUGACAAUGGCAGGUAUGAAUUCAGGAUUAUAUCUCAACAAGCAACAAGUGGCCUUCAUUAUCCACCCCAAGCAAAACAACAAAUAUCCAAAUAUCAACAAGCAAUGCAGAGGGAUAGCAAGGAUCCAAAUCAAACAAUAAACCUGUUGCCUUCAUACCUGAGAAUGUCCUUCUCCAGUAAGGCUCUGUUCUUCUACAAACACCUCAAGUUCCCCUUUAAAAUCAACGAAAACUAAUGAGACAGCAGCACCUCUUCUACUCUCCAAACACACAGCUCUCUCCCUCUUAAUUUUCUCUCAAACUAAACAGCCACCUAAAAUCCUCCAUCAACCUCUCUCUCAAAACUCCUCCUGUGAAAACUCUCCCCUCUCUCAGGUUCCUCUAAACGGCAGCCAAUAGCACCCCUACCUCUCACAGUUUGCUGCUCCCUGUUCUCUCCUCCGAUAGCCUCUCCUCUAAGCUAGAAACUUAUCCUCAAACUCUCACCCUUUUCUCCUCUGAUUCCCCUGUUUUUCUCUCUCUCUAGUCUCCCUCAGUAACCAGCCUGGAGACCCUAGUUCUCUCCCAAGCUCUCCUCUCUCGUUCCCCCAAGCAAAGGCCCCCCUAACAAUAUCUCCCGGUAGCCUCCUUCUUUUGCUCUCUAGCCUCAAAACUCUCUCUGGAAUCCCUCAGACUUCAGCAGCCCAGGUACCUCUCUCUUCUGAUUUUUCUCUAUUUUCUCUCUAAAAAUCCUCCCCCUUGAGUAACCAGCCUCCUCCUUACCCAAGCAAAGGAUCCCCUAAAAAAAUAUCUCUAACGGCCUGCUCAGAGAGCUCCUGCAGCUGCCAGACGACACCCCCUUCCAGCUGCCUGCCUCCAAAAUAUCUCAUAACUGCCUGAAGAAUCCCUUUACAGGUGUCACCCUCUGGUUUGCCUCUCAAAUCCACUACUUGAUCCUUUAGCAGCCUGUCAAGAGGCACCAUGCGGCCUCCUCAAGUUGCUCCACCUGGAAAAAUUUGCUACAACAAUUACCUCCCAAAGUGGGGGUCUACAUCAUGGAAUGGGGUUAGUGAAUAAAUGCAGAAUGAUUAUAUGUAUAUCAAGGAAUAGAGUGAAUCAAUCACGCAUGGCAAACAAAUAAAUAAAUCAAUCAAUCAAUUAUGAAGUCGAGUAUAUGGGGCCCCCACCAAAGCCCGUUUUAUCUUGCCUGAAUCGAUUCCGAUAACUCCAUUGCUCGGAAUUACAGAACUUGAUUCCUUGCUUAUUUCAAAACAUUUUAAAAAUAGAGGAAGUAUGAAAAAUUGCUUGCCAGAAAUAAAAGUGGCAGCAAAGCUUUAUCAAAAAUGUGAUUUUGGAACCUAAGGAAAAUGCUCUAAGGAUGAAGAAAAAGGUGGAACAUCGGUUGGAUAGAAUUCCGGAUGUGAGAUAUCCAGAGAAGGUGGAACGUCGGCGGAUAGGAUUCCAGGCGUGAGACACCCGGUGAUUACUACCAAAAAUUGCUAUUUUUUAGACCUAAUUAUAAUGGUUUUAAGCAUCUUUGAGUAGUAAUCAUAUUCAUUUAACCUAAUUAAUUCAUUAAGGUCCUUAGUAAUUGGUUUUAACCAUUUUGUGGCAAGUUUACAUGUUUUUAUCAGCUUAUGAAUCAAUUCAAGCAUGCCAAAUGAUGGAGGAGCUACUUGGACAAGUUAAAGCAAUGAUUUUGGAAGUUUACAGGCUUGAAUUUCAAGUGGAAACACGAGCACAAACAAAGGGAUAGCCAUUUCGCAAGGCAAGGCAAAGUACCUUGCCAAAAUGCAAUUUUCGCAAGGUGAAUUUACUCAUGAUGCGAAAAUAAGGCACUUCGCAUCAUGAGUAAUUCACCUUGCUAAAAUUUAGCAAGGUGCCUUUUACCUUGCCAAAUUACCUCUGUUUCUCCACGCACGCACCAUCGACUUCCCAGAUAUUUUUAGCUUGAUAUUUUCUCGUGUAAAUUCCUUUUGUAACCUUGUAUUCAGCCGACAUAAGGCUUUAUCUUGUAAUUUUGCUAUAUAUAGAGGUGCACAACACCUCCAAAAGAUAUUGGGGAUCGAUCCUCUGUACAUUAACUUAGAAAUAUAUAAAGCUCUGUUUUUCUCUCUUCUCCUGUUCUUCCCCAUUUCUAUUUUCUUAGUAACCAAACAACCUCUGAGGGCUUUUCCUUAGAGGAUAAUUGGCUAAAACUUUUAGUUUCUCAAAGUAUGGAUGUUAUGGGAUGGCUUGGAUGCAAUCCCAUGGAAAUUUCUCGCACCUAGAAGGUAAGGUAGUCGUUUUUCAUUAAUGGUUCAUUAAUGCAAAGUUUGGUUUUUAUUUCCUUUGGACAACUUCCAACGGCCAAUACUUGAUAAGCUUUUGGAUUUCUAUCCAUUAGUUAUCUCCUACGAACUAUUGGAAGGUGAAUUUUUCAAUUCCAAGUUUUACAUUAAUCCGUUAGAACCAAUUUCAAUGGCCAUUGAAAGGUGAGUUUAUCACCUGGAAUGACUUUGAGCUGCCAAUAUUUGGUAAGCUUUUGGUUUUAGACCAUUAGUUAUCUCUUACGAGCCAUUCAAAGGAAGUCUAAGAUGAAUAACCAUUGAUGAAAUUCACUACCAUCUGUUUUGCCAUUUUAAAGGAUUAAAACUUGAUUUGCUAAAUCCAUACCGGUUCGGGAAUCAAGCAUCACCAUAGUUGCAACCCCAACGCGAGGAGCCUAUCUUGAGAUUUCCAAUUUGCAUAAGAGCCAGAGCAUAGCUAUCCUAUCUUUGAGAAACUUGCUUUUACACCCUUUCAUUUUAGUCUUUAAUGUUAGCUUAGAUUAGUUUAAAUCUUUCUAAAACAUUUACAUCUUCUUUUAAAGCUAACAUCCAUAAGAAAAUCACCUAUUUUCCUAAUUUGAAUAUCACUAGUGUUUGCGAAAACCCUUCCCAGUGAACGAUCCUAGAACCACUAUGCUAUAGUAGUUUGGCUACUUUAGUAAUAGUAUUUAAGGUAUAAAUUUUGUUGAUACGCCUUCAAAGCUAAGCUACCAUGAGUCGCAUCACCCGGGAAAGGUGGAACAUCGGCGGAUAGGAUUCCGGAUGCGAGGCAUUCGGAUGGAAUGACAGCGGAGAGGACUCCGGGUGUGAGACACCCGAGGAAGGUGGAUCGUCGGCGGAUAGGAUUCCGGGCGUGAAACACCCGGGGAAGGUGGAACGUCGGCGGAUAGGAUUUCGGAUGCCUUGCAUCCGGAUGGAAUGACGGCGGAGACGACUUCGGGUGUGAGACACCUGGGGAAGGUGGAUCGUCGAUGGAUAGGAUUCCGGACAUGAGACACCCGGAUGGAAAUGACGGCGCAGAACGAUUCCGGGUGUGAGACACUCGGAUAGAAAUGGCAGCACAGAAGGGAUUCCGGGUGUAAGACAGUCGAAUGAAAAUGGCGGUGGGGAAGGAUUCCAGGUGUGAGACACCCGGAUGGAAAUGGCGGCGCAGAAGGAUUCCAGGUGUGAGACACCCGGAUAAGGUAGAAUGUUGUUACGAGUAGCAUGAAGGAUAGGUAUGGGUUGUGUGGAUAUGGGGGCUUGGGUGAGUGGUUUUAAUGGGUAUGCGAAAAAGUGAAGGAUAGCAUGCACCCAAGAGACCCCAUGUACGUGGGGGGAGUGGGGUGGAGAAUGAAUGAGAGGAAAAGGAGUGCAGUGGAGGAUGCCCGAUUCCUAUAAGCUUGAGUGAGGAAAUGGGUAUGACGACCUAGAAAGAAAGGUAUAUAGAUGAACGAUGGGUAUGGGGAUGCUGAUGAGGUGAGCUUUGCCGCCACGAAAACUACUCCAGAUUCUCUAGGAUCUCUUUCGAGUAGGGAUGAGAAAAUGGAUGCGUACCAUGGACGGAUAUCAAGAAACAGGGGAAGUAGAGAAACAGAGCGUGAAAGAAGACGAAUAAACAAAGAAAAAAAAGAAUCUCAGAAAAUCCAUUUCAUGGAUCAUCCAUGAACCUUCUGUGCAGGUGAGUAGAUCAUGUCAAAUGCAACCACCCCCCUGAUUCUCAAGCAUUACGUAAUCAUAGUAGGAUUAGAGUAAGUAAAAAUGGACAGUGGCAAACACAAAUACAAGGUCAUACUUCAACAAGUAGACUGGUGGCCUUCAUUAUCCACCCUAAACAGAUCAAUGAGUAUUCAAAUAUUCACAAGAGAUGUAAAAGAGUGAUAGUCAUACCUGAAAGCCUCUUCUCCCGCUAGGCGUCUCUGGCUAAACUCUCCUCUCCUCUCCCCUCUGUCUCCCUUUUUCCUGGAUUCACCUUCCUUAGCAAGUCAGUACCUGCCUCCUCCUAUUCAUGCAUCAGCCAGUAUGGCUUGCCCAACUACCGUCACUGUUGUUGUACGCUUCAUGCAGACGACAUCAAGCUCCCAGCUGGGGGUCCCCUACCCUAUCUCAAAAAAUGUAAUCCAAAACCAAGAAAAAAACCGCUCCCCCCUCCUCACAAAAAGCUCAUCUCUAACAACCAAAAAGCUCCUCCGAAUAUCCUCCAACAGGUGUCUCCACCCCAUUGCAUUUCCAAACCACUACCUGGUUCAUUGACCACCCAACCAGGAAGCAACAUCUGGCUCUUCAAGAGCCCUCCACUUGGCCAGAAGCGUGAACUGCAGCAAAUGAAAAAAACGAGCCCCAUAUGGGGGUCUACACAAACAAAGACAACAACAGAUGAAAAUAAUUAUUCAUCUGUUAGUGCAAAAUAUGAAAGAGAAGACAACAGUGUGCAUCUUCACUAUGACUGAGGAUCAAAUUCUCUUUGAGAUUGAUAUAAAUUAUUUAUAGCUUCAUUGUUCAUGGAGAGUUGAUUCAGUAGUGUCUUCCAUUUGAAGACAUACAAAAAUGGUUAGAAUUAUCUAUUCAUUUCAAGAGAUAACUUGCAUCUAUGACCCUUAUACUCCCAUGAACUUUGAGCAUCUAUUAUUUAUAAAAUAUGGAUGAAAAGAGAAUAAAAAAAAAAAAUUCAUGGGAAGUGUAUUUUGGAAAAAAUAAUUCUCAUUUGAUACAUUGGAAAAGUGUCUACCUCACAUUACCCAAAAAUGACGUUAUAUGUGUACAUGGGUCAUCAUCCAUAGUAACCCAAUUCACAUGAGGAUGGUAUAUCAUUUAUAAAGGUACAUUAAGCUCAAAACAGUGGUACAUUAUAAUCAAAACAAUAUUACUUUAAUAUCAAAAUACAUGUAAGGACAUUUUCAGGUAAUGUGAGGUAAAUACUACUAUAAUACAUUAAAUAAGAAUUAUUUUCCCAAAAAAGUACUUCCCAUGAAAAUGACUUAUGUAGGUUUUCUUUUAUUUAUUUUUUAUAAAUAGUGCAUGUUUACAUGAUUCCCUUAUUAAUAUAAUAUAAUCAUCUAUACAUGAUAAUUAAGGAAAUCGAAAAUAUUUACAUACUAAGCAAGGAUAAUGGAAAUUAAACAGUAUGAAAAAAGAGAAAAAUAAAUAUUAAAUAUAAAUUAAAACUCUAAAAUACAAGCCUUCAUUUGCACAUAUAGGCCAAUAUCUUAGGAGGUAUUUGAUUAAAAAAUAAUAAUGAUUAAAACUGGAAAAAUUUAUGGGUCCCAUUUUUUAAGUGUUUUCAAUAACAUAAUUAUAAACCUCUUAAAAUUUAAAAUCAUUUAUUUAAACCACUUUAUUCAUUUAGCAACAAGGACUUAAUUAAUCACUAAGAUCAAACAUAAUGAUUUAUAAUUUUUAUAAUUUUUUCUUCCAUUACUAUCAUUUUUUUGUUAAUAAAAUGAAGAUUUCUAUUGAUGAAUUUUUUACUAUUAAAAAAAUUAAUUCAUCUAUGAGAUUCUUUUAACUAAUCCUUUUAGAAUUUUUAUAAUUUUUUUUUUCAUAUUUAAAGAUAAAAAAAUUGUUAUGAAAUAAUUAAAUUAAUUAUAAAAUUUAUCUUUCUUUUCUAAAUCAGAAUUUUUGUCAUGUCCAUUCAUAUAAUAAAAUUAAAAUUAUAAAUAAAUAAAAAAACCUAUUUUAAUUGACAGCAUCAUGGAAUCUCUCCAUGCACACUCAUGCAGCCAGCCAUCAAUUCCCACGGCAGCCACGUGUCUUCCAACAAGUAUAUUCCCUUUCUUUGGCUCUCCACGUGUUUGUGUUCUAUUUUUAUUUAUUUAUUUUAUCCUGAUUAGUAGUUCACCGAACAAGCAUAACAAGGAUAUGAGUAGAUAUGUCAUGGCUAUGAUCACUUCUAACACUAAACCUUCUUAAACAAAGUGAGGUAUGAAUGUAGUAUGCCAGUCUAAAUAAUGGUGAAAGAAUAAAAACAAUGGAGAAUGCAUGUAAGAUGUAUAUAUAACUAUAAAUAAGGAUUCAAAAUGAGGGGAAAAAUCAUUGAGAAGGGUGAACCAUGGGUGAUAAGCCACUUUAAGGUUCAUCCUUUGGAUAAAUAUUAAAAGUUAAAGAGUAUAAAAUGUCUACUUAUGUCAUCAUUUUUUUUUUUCACUUUUAAGUUAAAUAUAUUUUUAUUGUUAUAAAUGAAGUAAUGAAUGCCACCACAUUUAUUAUAUUAAAUGUUCAUUAAAAGCAUAUAAAAAUGUUUCCUAUCCCCUAUAAAAUGCAUCCCAAGCAAAGAAAUACAUUUUCUUUCUCUUUUAUUCUCUUUUUUUAUUUUUUUAUUUUAUUUUUAUUCUCCAUAUCUUUCAUUCUUUCAACUAUCUUAAUUGUCUUUUAUGAUUCCUUCCUCUCCAUUAUAUAUCAUUGUCAAAAUAAUAUAUAGUUGUUCUCUACUUUUAUUGUCGUUGCAUUUAUCCUCUUUUUAUAAUAGGUUAUUAGCAUGAAUUGCUCUGAAGGUAAUUCUCAUAUCUUAAACUUGAAGUUAUUUAUAUAGAAUAAAAUUUUACAUAUUUAUAUUGCUAUUGUUAAAUUCAUUUAAUUUGUGUUAUAUAUUAUUAAAAGCUAUACACAAAUUAUUUGAUUUUGAUUAUAAUCAAAAGUUAUACCAAUGCCAUUAAUUUAUAACUAAUUAUAGUAAUAUUGUUUUGUCAUAUAUCUGAAGUUAUUUAACAAUGUCAAAUCUCACAAAACUCAAAUUUAUGGCACUUGACAUUUCGGGAAAGAACUAUAUAUCUUGAAUCCUUAAUGCUGAAAUACGUCUUGAUGCAAUGAAUCUUGGAGCUAUGAUUAAAGAAGGAAAUCAAGCAUCCUUGUGGGAUCACGCAAAAGCGUUGAUUUUCUUUUGCCAUCAUCUCUAUAAAGGUUUUAAAAAUGAGUAUCUUAUAGUAAAUGACACUUUUACUCUAUGGAGUAAUUUAAAGGAAAUAUAUGACCACCAGAAAAUUGUAAUUAUCCGGAAAGCCUGAUAUGAUUGGAUGUAUUCAAGGUUGUAGGAUUUCAAAACUAUUGGUGAAUAUAACUCUGCCCUUUUCAAAAUCAGGUCUCAAUUAAAGCUAUGUGGAGAAAAAAACCAUAGAAGAAGACAUGUUAGAAAAAACUUUACUACAUUUCACGCCUCGAAUGUGCUCUUACAACAGUAAUACCAAGAACGUAUAUUUACAAAAUACUCUGAAUUAAUAUCAUGUCUUCUUGUUGUUGAACAAAAUAAUGAGCUUUUGAUGAGAAAUCACUAGUCUCAUCUAAUUGGAUAUGAACCAUUCCCUAAAGUGAAUGCAAUAUUGUCCCAAACUCGUGGACAUGGGCAAUGACAAGGAAAUGGUCAUGGUCAUGGAAGGAAUCCCUGAUAUAAUGGUUAUUAUGGUAAUAAUUCCACAAAUUCUCAUAAAAUGAAAGCUUCAUUGCACCACUGAUUACUACUCAAAAAGUGCAUUUUUAUAAGCUUAAACUUAAUUGUAUUAAGCACUUUUGAGUAGUAGUUAGACCUUUUAUCCCAAUUGGCAUGUUAAGGACCUAGCAAAUGUUACUAACCAAUUUUUGGUAAGUUUUAGUGUUUUUGAUAGCUUUUUUAUCACUGAAACAGCCCAAGAUUGAGGGAGAGUUUGGAGCACAUGAAGAAUCAGAGCUUUGGAGCACUUCAAAACCCCUUGCCAAACUUGAAAAAGGGUUGCCAAAACUAUCAGUAGUAAGAUGGAGGGAAAUAGAGCAUUUCGCAAGGCAAAAUCAUCAAAUUCGCAAGGUGUGCCAAAAUUCGCAAGGUGUGCCAAACUUUCGCAGGGUGAUUACUACCAAAAAGUGCUAUUUUGUAGACCUAAUUAUAAUGGUUUUAAGCACCUUUGAGUAGUAAUCAUAUUCAUUUAACCCAAUUAAUUCAUUAAGGUCCUUAGUAAUUGGUUUUAACCAUUUUGUGGCAAGUUUACAUGUUUUUAUCAGCUUAUGAAUCAAUUCAAACAUGCCAAAUGAUGGAGGAGCUACUUGGACAAGUUAUGGCAAAGCUUUUGGAAGCUCAAAUUCAUGAAGAACCAAGCUUUGGAGCUCCAUAGCCCUUUUCCAAAGUCGUUCAAAGUAUGCAAGGAAAGAACAAUGGAAAAGAGGAAAAGCAAGCAAAGUGAAGAGAAGCAAAGAGGACAGCAGCUGCAGUCUUCUUUUGCCCUUUUGGAGCACUUACCGAAGUCCAUUUUUUACAUAAUAUAUACCAUUUCAAAGCUCUGGAAGUCAAGAAUCCAACGCUUUAAACCAUGUACGAUUUGGAGCUGAAAUGAGGAAGAUAUGGCCUUCGGAAGACAACUGCUCCAGGUUAUGCGAAAAUUUUGCACGACACAAGGUGUUAUGCGAAAUUCGCAUAACACCUUCAAAAUUCGCAUAACCCAUGCGUGGUGCGAAUUUUGCUCUGUUUUUUCCGACUCCACUUUAGAUAUUUUCCUUUGUAUUUUGUGAUGUAAUUUCCUUUCUUAUCCUUGUAACUAACCAAUCACAAGCUUUUGUUUUUGUAAAGACUAUAAAAGAGGUGGAAAUCACCUCUUGAAAAAAAGAGAACAUGCGUGUUAGGUUUUAUACAGAGCUCUCUCGUUUCUCUUUUCUCUUUACUAUUUUAUUUUCUUGGAAGCCAAACAGCCUCUGAGGGCUUUUCCUUAGAGGAUGAUUGGCUGAAACUUUUAGUUUUUCAAAGUAUGGAUGUUAUGUCAUGGCUUGGAUGCACUCCCAUGGAAAUUUCUCGCACCCGAAAGGUAAGGUAGACGUUUUUCAUUAAAGGUUCAUUAAUGUAAAGUUUGGUUUUUAUUUCCUUUGGACAACUUCCAAUGGCCAAUACUUGAUGAGCUUUUGGAUUUCUAUCCAUUAGUUAUCUCCUACGAGCUAUUGGAAGGUGAGGUUUUCAAUUCCAAGUUUUGCAUUAAUCUGUUAGAACCAAUUUCAAUGGCCAUUGAAAGGUGAGUUUAUCACUUGGAAUGACUUUGAGUUGCCAAUAUUUGGUAAGCUUUUGGCUUUAGACCAUUAGUUAUCUCUUACGAGCCAUUCAAAGGAAGUCUAAGGUGAAUAACCAUUGAUGAAAUUCACUACCAUCUGUUUUUCCAUUUUAAAAGAUUAAAACUUGAUUUGCUAAAUCCAUACCGGUUCGGGAAGCAAGCAUCACCAUAGUUGCAACCCCAACGCGAGGAGCCUAUCCUGAGAUUUCCAAUUUGCAUAAGAGCCAGAGCAUAGCUAUCCUAUCUUUGAGAAACUUGUUUUUACACCCUUUCAUUUUAGUCUUUAAUGUUAGCUUAGAUUAGUUUAAAUCUUUCUAAAACAUUUACAUCUUCUUUUAAAGCUAACAUCCAUAAGAAAAUCACUUAUUUUCCUAAUUUGAAUAUCACUUGUGUUUGCGAAAACCCUUCCCAGUGAACGAUCCUAGAACCACUAUGCUAUAGUAGCUUGGCUACUUUAGUAAUAGUAUUCAAGGUAUAAAUUUUGUUGAUACGCCUUUAAAUCUAAGCUACCAUGAGUCGAAUCACAGGGUGUGCCAAACUUUUGUAGGGUGUGCGAAAAUCACUUUGUGCGCACCGACCUUUGAGAUUUUUCUCCAGAACUGUAAUUGUUCCUUUUUAAUCCUUUUGUAAUAGAUUCAUUACAUUAGGGUUUGUUUAGGAACUAUAAAUAGGGGUUGGAAAACCUCUCAAAAGAUAUUAUGUUAGGAUAGAUAUUAUGUUUUAGAUAUUUUGUAAAGUCUGAGUUUUUCUCUGCCUUUCCUUCUCAUUUUCUCUUCACUUUCUCUCUAACCACACACCCUCUGAGGAUGAUUUCUCAGAGGAUGAGUGGCUAAGUUUCACGUUUCUUGGAGUGAUGGAAGCUAGGUAAAGGACCCAGAUGCAAAGGUAUGAGUUUUCCUUACUUUAAAUGAAGGUAGUUGUGUAUCAUUAAUGGUUUAUAUUUCAAGUUUCAGUUUUAAUCCCUUAGAAUCACCUUGAAUGGUCAAUACUUGGUAAGCUUUUAGGAUUCUAUGGAUGCUUAUUGCUAGAUCCAUGGAUGUCCAUUAGUUAUCAAGUACUAGCCAUUGGAAGGUGGUUCAAGGUGAGGGUCUUUAGUGUUUGAAGCCAUUAAUGGGAAGCAACUACCAUUUUUCAAGAAUCCUUUGGAUCAAAACUUAUAUGCUAAAUAUAAAUCCGGUUCGGGAGAUAACCAUCCUUUAUGUUAUUGUCCCCAAUGCAAGGAGAAGAUCUGGAAUUUCCUGCUUUGCAACAGGAACCUGAUCCUAGUAACCAUAGCUCCAAGAGACUUUCUCUUUAUAAUAAUUUCAAUUGUUUAUGUUUGCUUAACUUAAAAUCAACCCUUCCAAUCAAUCUUAUUUUCAUUUAAAAACUAACUUCCAAAAAGGAAAUCACCAUUUCUUCUUUUAUUAAUGUUAAGUGUACAAAGAAAACCCAUCUCUGUGGAUGAUCCUAAAGCCACUAUACUAUAGUAGCUUUGUCCUUGCUAUCCUAGUAUAAGGUGUUGUAGGUUUUAUAAAUGUUUUGAUAAACACCCGACUGGGCAUGAAUCAAAUGGCGUUGUUGCCGGGGAUGGUGCCUAAGCGCAUAAAUGUUACCUUUUAUGAGUACUUGUGAUCUUCAUCACAAGUUGGUGAUUUUUCUUUCACUAACUCAUUUUCUUUGUUUUUAUUUUAUCUUAUCUUUCAUUUAGUUUUUAGAUAACCUUAAAUAUUUUCCUAGAAUUGUAGUCCUUUUUGUUUUCUUUGUUUUUGUUUCAGUAAUCUCGGGUUGUGUAUGCCCUAUUAGAUAAGAGAUAUUGAGGGAAGACUUGUGAAAAUUGAAACUCCUCAAGAAACUGAGUUGGAAGUCUGCUUGAACAUCAUGGAUUGUCCACAUGAAGAUCAGCAUAGCCAACAUGGGCAAGAGGAGAAUCUCAAUGCAUACCGAUCCAUGAGGGACCGCAUGCAUCCACCUUGAAUGAGUGCACCUUCAUGCAUAGUGCCUCCCACUAAGCAGCUAGUGAUCCGACCUCAUAUAGUGCCACUUCUACCUACUUUUCAUGGGAUGGAAAGUGAGAACCCCUAUUCUCACAUCAAGGAGUUUGAAGAAGUGUUGAUUACUACCCAAAAAGUGUUAUUUUGCUCCUUUAAUUCAUUAUGUUUUAAGCACUUUUGUGUAGUAGUUCUCCAUCUUUAUUCCAAUUGGCAUGUUAAGGACCUAGCAAUGACUUCUAAUCAUAUUUGUGGCUAGAUUUAUUGUUUUGACAGCUUUUUGGAUCAUUAAGACAAGCCAAGUAAAGGAGAGAAGCAAAGAGGAAAACAGAGUGAAGAAAAUAGAGGACAGCAUCUGCAGUAUUCCUUUGCACUUUUGGAGCACUUAAUGAAGUCCAUUUUCUACAUGCUAUAUACCAUUUAAAAUAUCAGGAAGUCAAGAAUCCAACGCUUCAAACCGUGUAUGAUUUGGAGCUAAAAUGAGGAAGAUAUGGCCUUCGAAGACAACUGCAUCAAGCUAAGUGCGAAUUUCGCACAGCAGCCCAAGCAAGUGCGAAUUUCGCACCACCAGCCAUGCAAGUGCGAAUUCGCACCAGCCCAUGCUUCUUUGGUGCGAAAUCUCCUCUGUUUUUCCGACUCCACAUGAGAUCUUUUCUUUUGUAUUUUUUGAUGUAAAUUCCUUUCUUAUCCCUGUAAUUAGCCAAUCACACGCUUUGCUUUUGUAAAGAUUAUAAGAGGGGUGGAAAUCAUCUCUCGAAAAAUGACGAACAUAUGUUAUGUUUUACACUUAGUAAAAUACAGGGCUCUCUUUGCUUUCCUUUUCUCUCUACUAUUUUCUUUUUCUUGGAAGCCAAACAACCUCUAAGGAUGUUUUCCCAGAUGAUGAGAGGCUAAACCUUUGGUUUCUUGGAGUGAAGGAAGCUAGGUGAAAAGUCCAGAUGCAAAAGUGGAAAACUCUCGUGCAUUAAAUACAGGUAGUUGGAGUUCAUAAAUGGCUUUUAAAUCUAAAGUUUUGCUUUAAAUCCCUUAGAAUCACUUUGAAUGGCCAAUACAUGUUAAGCUUUAGGUCUCUGUGGAUACUUAUUGCUAGAUCCAUAUCAGACCAUUAGUUAUCAUGUAUGAGCCAUUGGAAAAUGGCUCAAGGUGAAGACCCAUAGUGUCUAAAGCCAUUAAUGGAACCUGACUACCAUUUCUAUUGACUUUUUAUGGAUUAAAUCUUCAUUGUUAAACCUAUACCGGUUCGGGAAACAACCAUCCUUUAUGUUGUUGUCCCCAAUACGAGAAGAAGAAUCCGGAAUUUCCACUUUGCAUUCUGAACUUGAUCCUAGCAACCCUUAUCUUCGGGAGACUUUCUUUCUUCCAUUUUUACCUAGUUCUAUAUUAGUUUAGCUUCAAACACCACUUUCAAAAAAAAAUUUAUUUUCCUUUAAACUUUAAGUUUUUGACAAAGGAAAUCAUCAGAUUCAAUUUCUAAUCUUGAGUAUAUCAUUGGUAGAAUGAAAACCCAUCCCAGAUUUCGACCCUAGAGCUGCUAUACUAUAGUAGCUUUGCUACGCUAGUAUGAGGUCAUAGGAUUUAUAAAUAUUUUUUAUUAAAACACCCGACUGGGCACGAAUCAAAAUGGCGCUGCUGCCGGGGAUGGUGCCACUUUACAGUGAUAUGACCUUUUCAGAGUACUUGUGAUCUUUAUCACAAGUUUGGUGACUUUUCUUUUCCUUUUAUUAACUCUUUUUUUUUGUUUAUUUUCCUUUGUUCAUGUUUUAGUAUAUCUUUUAUUUAGAUUUUAGUUAAUCUUAAUAAUUUUCUUUAGAAUUUUAUUUUCUUUUGUUUGCUCUGUUUUUAAUUCACAAAUUGCUAGUUGUGCAUGCCAUUUCUAAAACACUAGUGCAAGCUAUGUCGUGUGCCAUUUGUCAAUCUUUUGAGCACUUGGUGGAGGAGUGUCCUAUCCUUCCAGCAAUGAGGGAGAUGUUUGGUAUGCCAUGUGGCAUUUGUCAGUCUUUUGAGCACCUGGUGGAGGAGUGUCCUAUCAAUCCAGUGGCAAGAGAGAUAUUUGGUGAUUAUAACACCUACAAUUCAUUUUGUAGGAAUCAUCCAAAUUUCUUUUAGGAACCACAACCACGUCAGUACAUGCAACCCGCUCAAGCACCACAUCAAGCCUUGAAACUUGAACAAGCAAUUGUGAACCUUACCAAGGUUGUGGAAGACUUUGUAGCACACUAGAAAUCCAUCAUUGAUCAAUUCAGGCAAGAAAAUGCUCAAGUCAGGCAAGAAAUUGAUAGCCAAGACAGAAAGAUGGAUGGGAGGUUGAAUGAUUUGUCUCAGAAGACAGACAAUCUUGAAUACUCAAGCUCAAGGCUUAUCAACCUCAACACAGAGCGAGAAAAAGAAAACUUUCCUUCUCAACCAUAUCAACAUCUCAAGGGUAUCCAUAAAGAGGAGGCCCAAAACGAAGAAAAUUCAAUGGUGAGGAAAGUCAAAGUAGUUAUGGUUGAUCAGCCCAUAUUCAAGCCAAAGCAUGAUGAAGGGUUACCUGAACCCUCAGAGAAGCUUGCUAAUCUGUUCCAUUGGACGAGAACAAAAGAAAUGUAGCCCUUAUUGAAUGCGGUGGAGAUACAGAGACAUGCGAAGGAGGAGCCCCCAAAGCUUAUUCUUAACUCGCUACCUCUAAAGAUGAAAUAUGCAUACCGGGUAGAAGACAAGCUGAAACAGGACCAGUUUUUUUUUUUUUUUAUAGACUUAGUCUUUCUAAAGACUAGCUAGUCCAUAUAUUUUUGUUUUAUUUUUAAAUUUGUUUUGAUUUUGAUUUCUUGCUUUAAUUUUAUUUUGGUUUGAUUUAACUUGGGUUUUUUUAUGAUCAACACAGGGGAAGCCAAAAACAGAGGAAAACAGAGCAAUUUGCACCACCCUACCCCCUUGUGCAAAAUUGCUUUUGUGAGCAUUUUCCAAAAAGCAUGCUCUCGGUCCCUACCCAAAAUCUUAGUGCAAAAAUGCACAGGAAUGCGAAAAUUUUUGCCAUCACUAUUCACUUUGUGCGAAAUUCGCAUUUGCUCUUUAAAAGCCAAUUUCUCUUCUUAAAAUCUAAGUUUGUUCUUCUUCAAUCCUCUCAACCCCUCUUUUCCGAUCACUCCUUUCCAUCCACAAGGUCCUCUCCUUCAUCAUCUCCCAUCCUAAAACCCCACCAUGGCAGCCCAUCUCAAAAGCUUCAUUCCAUAGUCGCGGCCAUCACUAUUCACAACAGCCCAUGCCUUUCAUUUUCAGCUUUUUCUCCUCCUUCCACCAUAAAAAACCCUUCAUUUCUUCACUCAACACUCCAAAUCCAUCCCUAAACCCAACCCAACCUUGAUUUUUCAAAAUCAAAACCUCAAGCAUAGGUUUCAAAGCCUCGAUUUCUUCAUAAGAAACCCAUUGUCGCCGGGUAUGGGAGCUUCAAAAUCUCUCAUUCUCUUCUUGUAAAGCUCCCAUUUCCAAGCUUAGCCACCAUGAAAAACUCCUUUCCUACCUCAGCCAGCAUUUCCCACCCUCAAAAACCAAGAAUUGUUGCCAUUUGAAACCACCACAAUUUCGCAUUUGCACGGGUGAAUAGUGCAUUGUGUGAAAUUCGCACAACACAUUUCCCUUGUGCGAAAUUCGCACCACCCUUCCCUUGUGCAAAUUUUUGAGCUUCUUCAUCCCUACCUUCCCUAAUCCCAAGCCUCUGAGCCUCAUUUCUUUGUUCCAUUAUGCCUAAGACCCGAGGAGGCUAUGCCUCAGCUCCCUAGAGCAGUCAGAGAGCUGCCCCUGUGCAGGCCCCACUAGAUGUACCCCCAUAUUUACCUGAUUCUGUCCCUUAGCGCAGAUACCAUACGAGGAGAGCAGUUGCCAUGCUUGUGGCCCCUACUCAGAUUCCACCUAGGAGUCCUCCUACAAAGAAAGCCAAGACUUCAAAGCCAAGAGAGUCCUCCAGAGCACCUCGAGAUUCACAGUCUCAGCCUCCUCCCACCAAGCGCCCUAUCCUCGCCAGCUCGCCCAUUGAGGGCAACUCCGAUUGCCGAUCGAGAGCAUUCCAUGUCGAGGCAUAUUUUGAUCACUCUAUUUUGCGACAGCAGCCUGAGUUAGGGGAUUCAUACCGCAUACUUGAGAGGUACCACCUUAUACCCUUUAUGACUCCCCCACAGUUCUUUUAUCCUCAAGUAGCUUUAGACUUUUACCAGUCUAUGACUACUCGUGGCGUCCCGGUACCAGCCUCGAUCCUUUUUGCCAUUGAUGGAUGCCAGGGUAUUUUGGGGGCUAGACAGAUUGCCGAGGCUUUCCAUAUCCCUUAUGCACUAGCAGAUCCCGCUACAUUUAGACGUUGGGCCCCACUUUCUGAGUGGGACAUGGUUCGUAUACUAUCUCGAGGGACAUCUUCACAGAGGAUCAUUAUGAGGAAGGAGCUUCCCCCUGGGAUGCUCCUAGUUGAUGUGGUGCUUUGUAACAAUCUUUUUCCUCUUCAGCAUAAAGUGUAAAGGCGAGGGGCCAUUCUAAAGGCAUUAUUCCGUAUCUCUGAGGACUACUACUUUAGCCCCCAUCAUUUGAUUAUGGUCGCCCUCCUCCAUUUUGAGGAGAAGGUGCAUAAGCGGCGUCUUACGAGGGCAAACACCAUUCUUUUAUUUUUCCCUCGACUGCUAUGCCAUGUUCUAGCGCAUAUGGGUUUCCCUGCAGACCCUCAUUCUGAGCACCGUCGCCAUUAUCGAGAGAACUUCUCUCUUGACCAAUGGAAUCAGGUAUGGCUCCAUCAACAUUCCCCAGAACUUCCCGAGCCAAGGGAAGUCCCUCCACAGCCUUUACCAUCUAUAUCUGCUCCGUCCACUUCAGCUCCCUCGGAGCCCGUACCAGAGGCAGCAUUGUCUGACACCCCACCUGUUGUUCCUCCUACCUAAGAGCCACCCAUUACUAUCCCUGGUGCAGAGUAUCGUGACUUGCUCGCUUCUUUCCAGACUCUGACCACUACUCAGACGGCUAUUAUGGAGCGGAUGGACCACUUCCAGCUUCGGUAGGACCAACAGACUCUCAUUCUCUGUGAGAUUCAGCAGCACCUCGGUCUUUUGCCACCAGCUCCACCUGUUGCUCCUGUGCCCUCAGAGCCUUCUACUCCAGCUGAUGAUGCUACACCUAUAGCGGUACCUUCCACAGUUGCAGCGGAUGACCCCUCCUAUCCACCAGAGGAGCCUACUACUUGAUCAUACGAUCACUCCUCUCAUUUUUUGAUUUGUAUCUAUAUUCUAUGUUUUUGGAUGUGUUAUAUAUUUUGGACUACUUUUAUAUUGGGAUUGGAUGUGUUCCAUGUUUAUCUUGUAUAUUGUACUCUCUCAGUUUAUAUAGACAUCUUCCUUUUUGUGUAUUUUAGUUUUUUCUUUUUAUUUCCUCUAAUCAUCACUCUUAUGAUUUUUCUUUUCUUAUGCAACAUGUGGUUUCUCCUAUUCAUUUAGAGUCCCUUACUAUCAGGAGGUAUCACUUCCUCCCUUUUUAUUAUCACUUGUUUUUGGAACAUUGGGGACAAUGUUCAUCCUAGUUGGGGAGAGAGUUGAGGAAGUAAUUUAUUGAAUUUUUAGUUAAGUUAUUUUGCUAACAAAUUUUUUGCAAACUCUUUUUGUUUUCUCAAAGAUAAAUUCUCAAAAAUAAAUGGGAGAAAUUAAAUUCUUAUCUUAUUGCCAUAGUCUUAGAGUUUGUAUUAUGCUUAUUAAAGUUGAUAAAUUGUUGAAGCUCCUUUUGAUUUCAAUCUUAAGUCUUCCACUCUAAUCUUUUCACACACUGAACACAUUAGAUUCCAGUUAUAAGAUGGAAAACUUUCUCACCCCCUAAACUUAGGAAAUUUUCGACUUGGUGCCUUUGACCUCAUUCUAUUAGUGUUGGGACACCUUAUAAAAGGCCAAUGUGUCUUAUGAAAAAAUUUGCUUCACUUGCUUUGAAACUCGAGCAAGGUUCGAGGGGUAUAUGGUGAAAAUCUUUGAAGUCUGGUGCCCUAAGCCUUUAUUGGUUGGGAGUCACUGACCUCACUGCUCGUUACAUAGGUGGAUGGGUGGAGUUCAAAAAAAAAAAAAAAAAAAAAAGGUGCGUUCUUAGCCUUUUAUAUGGGGGUUAGUGUUGCUAAAGUUAGAGAAAAACCUUAGUUGGGGGGAGAAUAUAGUUUGACAUACUAUAACUGGAAACUAAGCACCUUAACACUUAGAUUUUUGUGGAAGAUUAAGAGUUGGUCCUUUGGGAGUGGAAAUUAUUGUGAUACUCAAAUUUGCAUAAUGCCCACUCUUUGUAUGUUGUGAUAUGUAAGUUAUUUGAUGACUCUUGUUGAUGAUUGAGUUUUAUAUCCUUGACUUGCCAUGUGAGAUUUUGAUCUAAUCAUGCCACUUGAUUAUUUUUUCGAGUGAUCAGCAUGAUUUUGUAAAUUAUUAUAUUAUCUAUUUUUCUUUAUUUUUCUCUCCUUCAUUGCUCAGGUACUAGCAAUGUGUCAGUUGGGGGGAGUGAUUACUACCCAAAAAGUGUUAUUUUGCGCCUUUAAUUCAUUAUGUUUUAAGCACUUUUAUGUAGUAGUUCUCCAUCUUUAUUCCAAUUGGCAUGUUAAGGACCUAGCAAUGACUUCUAAUCAUAUUUGUGGCUAGAUUUAUUGUUUUGACAGCUUUUUGGAUCAUUAAGACAAGCCAAGUAAAGGAGAGAAGCAAAGAGGAACACAGAGUGAAGAAAACAGAUGACAGCAGCUGCAUUCUUCCUUCGCACUUUUGGAGCACUUACCAAAGUCCAUUUUCUACAUGCUAUAUACCAUUUCAAAGCUCAGGAAGUCAAUAAUCCAACGCUUCAAACCGUGUACAAUUUGGAGCUAAAAUGAGGAAGAUAUAGCCUUCGGAAGACAACUGCAUCAAGCUAAGUGCGAAUUUCGCACAGCAGCCCAAGCAAGUGCGAAUUUCGCACCACCAACCAUGCAAGUGCGAAUUUCGCACAGCCCAUGCGUCUUUGGUGUGAAAUCUCCUCUGUUCUGCCGACUCCACAUGAGAUCUUUUCUUUUUUAUUUUUUGAUGUAAAUUCCUUUCUUAUCCCUGUAAUUAGCCAAUCACAGGCUUUGCUUUUGUAAAGACUAUAAGAGGGGUGGAAAUCAUCUCUUGAAAAACGACGAACAUAUGUUAUGUUUUACACUUAGUAAAAUACAGGGCUCUCUUUGCUUUCCUUUUCUCUCUACUAUUUUCUUUUUCUUGGAAGCCAAACAACCUCUAAGGAUGUUUUCCCAGACGAUGAGAGGCUAAACCUUUGGUUUCUUGGAGUGAAGGAAGCUGGGUGAAAAGUCCAAAUGCAAAAGUGGAAUACUCUCGUGCAUUAAAUACAGGUAGUUGGAGUUCAUAAAUGGCUUUUAAAUCUAAAGUUUUGCUUUAAAUCCCUUAGAAUCACUUUGAAUGGCCAAUACAUGUUAAGUUUUAGGUCUCUGUGGAUACUUAUUGCUAGAUCCAUAUCAGACCAUUAGUUAUCAUGUACGAGCCAUUGGAAAAUGGCUCAAGGUGAAGACCCAUAGUGUCUAAAGCCAUUAAUGGAACCUGACUACCAUUUCUAUUGACUUUUUAUGGAUUUAAUCUUCAUUGUUAAACCUAUACCGGUUCGGGAAACAACCAUCCUUUAUGUUGUUGUCCCCAAUACGAGAAGAAGAGUCCGUAAUUUCCACUUUGCAUUCUGAACUUGAUCCUAGCAACCCUUAGCUCCGGGAGACUUUCUUUCUUCCAUUUUUACCUAGUUCUAUAUUAGUUUAGUUUCAAACACCACUUCCAAAACAAAUUUUAUUUUCCUUUAAACUUUAAGUUUUUGACAAAGAAAAAACCAAAAGCAACCCUGAAUCAAGUACCAAUUAAACACUAAUCUAAAUUAAAGUGAUCGUGAGAAGUUGCCAACUCAUAUUGGCUGGUGUAAAGUUUUUUUGGGAUUCAAUAGGUUUUGAUAUACUUCCCUUAAACCAUCGCACUUGAAUUUAAAGGCUAGAAUCAAGAAGCCUAAUGAAACUUGGUACAAGCUCAAUUACUGGACUUCUUAUUAAUUAACCAGGAGCAUCAAGUGACAAGAUAUUCACAAAAUCUAUCAAAGCAAUGAAAAUUGUGUAUCCUACAUAAUUUGAUUGUAGAGCUGAUUUCAAAUCCAUUACUCGAACUUAAAAGGAAAAAAAUUGAAGACAAUUUUGUGAGGACAAAUUAAAAUUGUGAGGAUCCCGAAUUCAACAAAUUAGCAUUUCUCUACCGGGUGCAAUUUGGCAAAUUGGUUUGACCUAACUUGAAUCUUGGUGAAGUUGAGAAACCAUUUAUAGUACUCAAGUUAGGAUUUGGUCGAGUUUCUCAACCAAAAGUUAUUUUGGGUUGAGUUCAAUUUUGGGCUAAGUUCAAACCAAUGCUUCAACAAUCUAAGCUGAAUUAAACUCCAUUAAUAUUUUAUAAUAUUUAUAGAAUAUAUUACUAUAUAAUAAUAUCAAUUUUUUUUCUAAAAUAAGUUUAAGGGAAAAACCAUCAAAAUAUAUUAAGCUAACUCUCAGAAAUUUGCCUAUCCCCUUGUGAACACUAUUUGGAAGGAAAAUUAAUUAGGAAGCCUCUUAAGCAAGCCAAAAAGGUAUCUGGUCCUUUGUAGCCUAUGCAUUCCAAAGUACAGGGCCUAAUGAACAUGCGAGCCAAGCAUGGUGCCUACUACUUCAUCACAUUUGCGGAUGGUUAUAUCUACAAGUCCAAAGAAUUGCUUUGAUUUAGAUGUUAUAUGAAUAUUGUUAAAAAAAAUGAAAAGAAAAAACUAUUACAACAUUAAGGAUAAAUCAUGGACUUGAGUAUCCAUUGAAGAGUUUUAAAAAUCUCUAUGAUGAAAAGGAAAUCCAAAGAACAAUCAAUGGCUUCAAGGACUCCACAGUAAAAUGGUUGAACUAAAAAAAGUAACCAUAAACUUUUGGAUAUGGUUCACUCAAAAAGGCACAAGCCAACUAUCUAACAUCUUUCAGGGUGGGAAAUGAGGGUUACUAUUUUGAUUGAAUAGAGUGCCCUCAAAAUCAAUUACUUCAAAUCCAUAUAGUUAAGAAGUCAAACCUAGCUCACUUGUGAUCCUAAGGGUUAGCAAGUUUAGUUCAUGUAAAUUUUCAUAGAUAUUGUGCUAUAAAGGAAACAAGUGCACUUUCAUUAGAUAUUCUAAUAAAUCAAAGGUUGUGUGAUGCUUAGUGAACAACUCAAUGGGAGUAUAAUUGAAAUAAAGUCAUAUGAAGUCAAUUUCUUAUAGGAUGAUAUUUUUAGUAGAGCAGCAUUGAACAAGAGUCUCAAUUUAUUUGAGGCAAUUAAACCAAAGGAAAAUACUAUGAUAUCUCAUAUCGAAUAGGAGAAAAAGUUCUUGACAUUAUAUAUAUGAGCUUCUCUUAAUUAUUUAGACACAUUUUAAUGUUGUAAGGGCUCUUUGAGCCCAAAGUGGAUGAUAUAUAUUUACACGGUUGGGAGUGAGUCAUUACAAAUGGUAUCAAAGUGUAUCCUCAACCAUGGUAUGGGAGUUUAUCUCAUCAUUGUAAUUAUGGGCAUUAAGGUGAAGCUUUCAUGUUUGCAUGAUAUGAUGUAACCAUAAAUGGAGUUCAUUAAUACUUAUAUUAUGACUUCGAAUUUCUAUUCACUAUCCUAUUUAUGAAUUAUGUAUGUUAAGCAUUCAAACCUACAUCACUUGCAUGUACAUGACUUGAGUGAAUUAGGAGUCACAUGAAAAAUCUAAGUCAUAGAUUCCUUACAAGUUAAUGACUCGUUCACAAUUGGUUCAUGGACUUUAAUAAACCAUUUGAGGCUAUAGUGCACUACCUCCUAAUUGGAGGGAUGACUUGCCCUAGUCAUUAGGAUGGGUUCCCCAUGGUGAGUGUACUAGUGUGUUUAAUUAUGUUGGGAAACCUAGAUAUUUCCAUUCCCAUAACCCUAGAUCGUAUAGGUGCAUGCAAAAUACCCUAGGCCUCUAAAUCCUAUGAACCAGAAGCAAAAAUCAAAAUUUUAACAUUCUAUAAUCUAGGGAAAAGUCACUAAAAACUUUGAGAAAAUUAAAGGCUAAUCUUAAUAGAGAAAACACCCAAGAGAUGAGGAAGGGGGUGAAUUGGGUUUUUAAAAAAUAUUUUUCAAACACCACAAAUUCAAGAAAAUGAAACACAAAUAUAAAGAUAUAAGGUUAGAAAGAGCAAACUUAGAUUUUAUAGUGGUUCAGCACUUCCUUGCCUAUGUCCACUCUCCUCAACCUCUUAACCGAGUGAAGGUUCCACUAUACUUGAAGCUUCAACUAAGCUUUUAAUCACCUUUACACUUGGAUUCCGGCUCCAAUGGGCUAUUACAUAAUCCCUUCAAGUCUUAACUCACUUGAAUCUUUUAGCAUUCAAAUAACAAGUUUGAAUCUCUCAACCUAGCCCAACAAGGGCUCAAAUACAACUUAAAUGUUAGGAAGAAUCACAAAGGUGCACUAAGAAAUAUGCAAAUGGAUAUUGAAUGCACUAAGGAAAGAAUGAGAGCUUUUGAGGCAAGAACAAGUAGGCAAACAAAUAAAUGCAGGUGUUCUCUACCUCAUAAAUGAAGUGGAGUUCUCAAUUUAUAGGUUUCUAGCCUUAAGAGUAAAAAAUGCCAAAAAGCGGCCAUGAUCAGUCGAGUUAGGGUUACUAGCCAUUGGAUAAUAAAUGCAUUGUAGGUGAUUGUUACGCCUCAACCGGUUUUUGACCAAAUCUCGACCAGAUCUCGACCGAGAAGGCAUAUCCCUUGACCAGGAAUGCAAAGCUAUAAGAAGAGAGAGAAGAUUUUUUGCAUUUCUCGACUGGACCUCGAUCAAGAAGGUGUAACCGAUCGACCAGUGCCCUAGCCGAUUGAGCCAGUUGGCUAGUGCCUUGACGAGUUCACCAUUUUUUGCCUGAAAACUUUUUUUUUUUUUUUUUGUUCUUUUCUCUUCUAACACUUAGGCAAGGUAUUUAGGUAAAUUAAUAUGCCAAUUUUGAAACAAUUUGUCUAAGGUUCAUCUGAUAAAACUCGGGUUUUGACGAAAAUGUAACUUUAAUGCCUAAACUGAGUUUUUAAAGUGCAUGAAAAGAUAUGAAAAUCCUAUGUGCACAAUGCAUUCAUCUUAGAUAUGUUUCCUAUUAUUAAAGGGUCUUUCAAUUGUCUUGAUCUUGCAUCCAUUGGGUUCUUUUAUGAAUUUCCAAACUAAUAUAUGAAAUUCUUUAUAAUUCAAACCAAUUAAUGACUUAACCAUGGUUUGUUAUCAUCAAAACGUGAUUAGGAGAACCCUUGGGCUAACAAACUUUACAUUUGAUUUAAAUGGUUCUUAAAUCAAUUAUGCUUAGUGAAUGUGAAGCCUAAAGAGUCCAGAGGUCUCACACAUCGAAAAUCUUUUGCUUGAUGACUUGAUCCACGAUCUUGCCACUCCAAAAUGGGGGCUUUUGAAGAGAGAAAUCCUAGGCUCUCUCUUUUUAGAGUUAGAAGAUGAUUGUCUCUCAAAAAGUGAUUGCAACCCUAACCUUUAAAUGGUAUUUAUAGAAUUUCCCUACUGGGCUUAAAUGACUUGAGCCCACUAAGGCUUGGGUCACUUAAUCUUGUAUAAAAUAGGUCUUAAUUGAUUAAUUAACCAUACAAGAUCAUCUAAUUACCUAAUUCAUGUCAAUGAGAUAAUAAAGAGAAAACAAAAAAUAUAAAUAAAUUUCUAUCUGUUACAUCAUGUCAUGCUUUUUAGGGCUCAAUCCUAAUAGGUUACACAUUAGAUAGGAUUUAUGGUGAGUCAGACAUUGGUCAUUAGGUAGUCUUGACUUCACGAAGCUACUAUGUUGCAUAAGCUCUCAACCUUGAGAGAAUAUUGAUCUAGUGCUAAGGUCUUCAAUGGCUUUGACCCAUGAGUGAGACCCUAAAGUGGUCAUAUAUUCUCUAUAAAUUGAGUCACUAUGAUUGAGGCAUGUGAUAAUGGGUAUUCUCAAGAUAAGCACCAUGAUAUCUUAAGGGAUUGAAACAUUAUAUCCCCUUAGAUGAUCAUAAGGACAUGUGAUUGUGAAAAUUAUGGUCAUAAUAAUUCCUUAAGUGGAAUUUGACAGAUGCUCUUGAAGAGAUAUAGUAUGUCAAUUGAUCACAUAAUAGGAGGAUCUAAGACUCAAGGAUUGUAGAAGUAGUCUUGAGAGGUUGAUAACAUUCAUUUUGUUAAAUUAUGGAUAAUAAUUCAUGAGGAGCUUGCAUGCAAUUGCUAGUAGGUCACAAACUGAAGUUUUCUAUCUCGGUCUAAUAUCAUAAAGAUACUAAAGUGUAGUUGACUCUCUAGAGUUAGAUUUUGAGUCAACUUUAAAAUUGGAUUUUAAGGGAGCUAGUACUUCCCUAUGGAUCCUAGUGGUUCCCACUCAAACUCAUAUUCCUUGGUCAAAAAAUAUUUGAGGAAUAGUAGGAUUCUUUAUUUAUAUGUGUGUAUAAGAGCAUUUUGGUAAAUACAGAAGGUUGCACAAGUACAUAUAAAUAGUCUUUUAAAUCAGAUAAUUAAUUAAUUGAAGCUUAAUAGAUAAAUUUAGUUAAUUAGGACCUAAUGAGUUAGAUUAAGUAACCCAAACAUAAGAUGAGCUCAAGUCACUCGAGCUAAGAGGUAAGCCUAUAUAAACUCCUUAAAGGGUUUAAGGCUUAGUACUUUUCAGCUAUUCAAUCUUCUACCUUAAUAUCUAUCCCCGUAGAGAGGAUUCUAACACCCUUGUGUAUUAGGAUACAAGAAAGAGAGUUAUCAGGCAAAAGAUCAUGAGUUAUUUGAGAUCUUAAUUAACCUCUUCACCAAUUAGAUUUAAUUCUUUGAGCACUUAAAUCUAAUAUUCAUUGUUCUGAAUUCUCCCAUUACAUAGUUCUAGCAUUUCUACGAAGAUAGUGUCAUGCACCUAAUGAUCUAGGGCUUGAAGUUAAGUAAUCUAGAUGUUCCAACACAUCAGAAGUAUAAAUUUUUUAAUAAUGUUCUCUUAUCCAUACUUGUGAAAUAUGGAAAGCUAUAGUGAAAUAACAUAUGAAGUUUAUUAGCAAGAACUCUAUUUGAGAAUUAAUUGAACUAUUGUUAAGACAUAAGACCUUAAGGAAUAAGUAGGUUUUUAAGGUCAAACUUUAGGCAAAUGAUGCAAGUUGUUAAACUUAACUCAUGAAGAAAGGCUACAACCAAAAUGAGAGUGUAGAGUAUAAAAAAAAAAAAAAAAAAAAAAAAAAGAACUUCUCAUGAGAAGUGAGGUUUGCCUCAACUCUCCUUAUUCAACCAUUAUCACAUUUUGGAUUUGAAAUUAUAUCAAAUAAACAUUCAAAUCAUUUUUUUUUCAAUGGAGAACUAAAUAAGAAGAACUAUAUAGAUCAACUAACUUGUUUUAUGGCAACUAAAUAGAAAGUCAAAGUUAACAACUACAAAGGUCCAUUUAUAGCCUACAAUAAUCAUUUAAACAAUGGUAUAUUACACUAAUGGGUUUAUGAUGGUCUAAGAACACUAUUACAUGUUUGUUAAAUGGUGUAAGGGUAGAUUCUUUAUUUUUUAUUUAUUUAUUUAUUUUUUUGUAUACAAAUGAAAUGUUAGUUAGGGAUGAUAAUGAGAUGGUUGCCUCUAAAGUGUGGUGGUCGUCAACUUUUAAAAUGAACAACAUGCUUAAAGCAAACUAUGUGUUCAAAGUUAUGAUUCUAAUCAAUCAAUCAAUGAGACUUUUUGGUUUGUUUUACAAAUCAUACACAAUGAAUAUUCUUGGAAAAAAUCUAGAUGUAAAAUUGAAAAUCUAUUAGCAUACAUAUACAGAAAGAUAAGACCUUAAGCUUUAACAUGUGUCGUAAGACUUUAAAUGAAUAGGAAAAGAUCACUCAAGGUUCCUAUAUGCUAGCAUUGUUAGUAGCUUAAAGUACCCAAUGAUGUGUACAUGAACUAAUAUUUGUUAUGUAAUUAGGUUAGUAACUUCUAAUUAGAUCUAAACCUUGCUUACAAAAAAGCAAUGGACUGGAUGCUUUCGUACCUUAAAGUCACCAUAGGCUAUAUAAUUUUCUAUUGAGGAUUGAAUUUGGACUUGAUUAGCUAUAACAAUGAUAAUUGGGGUAGCAUCCUAAAUGAACCCAAAUCCACACAUGGUUAUAAUUUUACAUAUGCUCUAUGAUGGUAGCAUAUAUUGGUGAAAUAGAAAACAAUCAUGUAUAACAUUGUCUACCAUGCAUGUAGUUAGGAGUACAUGACUUGUCGUUUAGGAAAGUGACUAGUUUAUGAUGUUCAUACAUAUUUUUCACAAUAUUGCUUGUUCUUUUGAGCAUACUACUAUUUAUUGUGAUAGCAUGGAAACUUUAGCCUAUGUCAAAGACCCCCCCAAGUAUCCAUAGUUGAACCAAACACAUCAAUCUUAAACAUUAGUUUAUAUGAGACAUGGUUGCAUAGGAACAUAUUUCUAAUUGAUAAAUGGUUAAAAAUCCCACCCUCACCCCCUUGUUGACUAAGCUAAUAUGUAAAGAUGUUUAUUAGGGUCAUGUUGAGAGCAUUGUAUUAUUUAGAUUAUGAUUACAUGGGAGUUAAGUUAAGAGCAUUGGAUCAUGUAUAUUAUGAUUACAUAUUAUAUAUUUCAAUUAACCAUUAUAUCUAUGAUUUAUUCAUUGUCCAAUCUUGUUUGAUGGUGCCAUUUAAUUAUUUGUUUUACUUUAUUGACAUACACUUUCAUUACUUUGCACAAUUGAAACAUAAUGAGUCCAAACCACUUAGAUAGUGUGUUAGAUCAUUGAUAUUUAUAAGACUCCUAUUUGUAUCCAAUAAAACUUGCAUGUUAGUAGCGACCAAGUAUAGAUAGUCCUAUAGUACACAUUUGUAAUGGAGUCAAUUGCCAAAUCUUGUUAAUGUAGUGCUUGAUUUAGUAAGCAUGUGCAAAACUUGAGUUCUUUGUUCGAUGCAAGUAAACUAAGAUUUGUACAAUAUAGAAGAUCUAAGGUACACUCAUAAUGAAGAUCUCCAUGUCAGCAUGUAUUUUCAUACUAUAUCUUCUUGGCAAUCAAACAAGAAUGAAUGAAUAUAUUCAUAGCUACUCCCUCAUCAUGUGCAUUAAUCUUAUAGGUCAUUAUAUAGUAUAACUUUUAUGCCCUUGUGAUUUUCAGUCAUAAGUUACAAGUAUGGUGUAGUUUUAAAUAUUUUUCUAAGGGGAUUCACCAUGUUUAACUCAAUGUGAAUAAAAGUGUUUAAGAUAUAACGAGACACCUUUUAGGGAUGAAUUACACUGGUUAAGAUGAAAUUUAGUUUAAUACUCUUACACCUUUCUUAUCAAUGUGUUCGACAGUUGUACAAUCCAUUAGUCAAUAUGGACAUGGAUGAUAAUGAUAUAGUUGAGAGAAAUGCAUGACGUUAUUUUGCCUACUAUGCAUGAGUGGGAAACAAUGGAGUUUCUAUUUCAUGAGAUACUCUUAGUAGAACUUCAUUAACUAAGAGCUUGAGAGUAAGUUGCAUACUUAUCAGUUAAGAUUCCUCAUGCGAGGAAAGUUUAGUUAAGAUUCCUCUCGUGGGAGGAGGUUCACAUUUAGAUUUGGUCAGAAUAUAUAAGAGUUGUUUGUCCUUUGCAAUUCCAAUUCUAGUCUUUUUGCAUGUUUUCAAUUUAGUUUGUGGCAGUUGUUAAAUACUUCUACUUUAAUUUGUAGCAAUUAUAAUUUUUAAAGCUUACUAUUUAGGUUUAGAUUUACUACAUGCUUAUUAGAUAUCUUAAUUCCUAUUGUAUUCUCCUUGGUUAAUAAUCUUUCAAUUUGAUUGUGGAGUUCAAAGAUUUUUACCAAAAUAGGGAUCGGGGUUUUCAAAGUUAGGAAAAGUAUUUAAUAAAAUUAAUUUUUGAAAAAGUUUGCAAGCUAAAUCUUUCAAUUGAACCUAAUGAGUUUACAUACUAAAUCUCUCAUUUUCAGCCUUGGUUGUUUCCACUCUUUGCAAUUUAAUUAGUUUUUUUUAAUAUACAUAUAUAUAUAUAUAUAUAGAUAAUUCAUUUUGUGUACCUAUAUACUCAAGUUUUUGAGUAAUUAUGAGUUGUAUUGUUAUAUAGUAGAAUUUGAUAAACUAAAAAUGCUUACCUUUGAACAAUCGAGUACAAUAGCACAUUUGUGUGGAUAAAUCAUAGCUACCAACUUGAUUCUCCAUGCCUCCUCUAUUAGGCUGACUAAGAAAAUGGAUUAAUUUCACAAGAACACCUUAAGAAUAAAAAUGUCAAGAAAAAGAGAAAAAUCAUGCUUCAUCUAAUUUGACUGCAAGACUUAAAGGAAAAAACAUAAUAAUAUAAUAGUUAUUAUAAUGAAUAUAAUAAAAGGAAAAAUUGUCAUGUUCUUCCCAAUACUCAUAUAACCCCUUUCAAUGAAACUUUGUAAGCUCUACUAAUACAAAAUAAUGGUUCAUAUAGUAAAAGCUCAAUAAAUGAAUCUUUGAUAAAUUGAUAAUCUUACUUAUAAAACAAAAUCUUCUAGUCUUAACUCAUACCAAUGUACUAAAUUAGCAAUCUCGUUAAAUACAUAAGAAAAAUAUUUUCAAAAAUCAUUAAGGGCUCAAGAAAUAUAAACUAAUAAUUGAUGAAGUAGAAACAAAAAUUUAUAGUAUAGCAAAUAGAACUUCGUAAUAUAGUAUUAAGUAAUUUUUCAUAACUUUUGUUUUUCUAAAUUCACUUCUUUUAGAAUUAUCACAUAUUUGAAAUAGCUUUAUCUUUUUCAACAUUAAGUUUUGAUGCCACAUCUUUUUUUAGGAGUCUUUUUAUCUUUAAUUUACAAUCAAUAACUUUUUUUUUUCUUCAGUCUCUUAGGUUUCUAUGUAUUAACUUUUUACCAUGUUUAUUAUUUUUAAAUUUAUUAAGUCAUACAUGUACUAAUAAUGUACAGUAACAACAUAAUACUCUUCAUCAAUUAAUAAAUAUUCAUUUAUCUAUAAAUCAAUAACCUUGCUAAGAUCAUAAUUUUUCUUAGUACCAAGAGUACUAUUUUAUAAGAGUUUUUCUCUAUAUAGUUCCUUCAUUGUAGGAAUUUCUUUGGGUUAAUAUUACUAAAGUUGUAAUUUUAAAAAACAUAUAUAAUGGAAAUGAAGAGAAAUUUGAAAUCUAUGAAUUAGUGUUUUAUAUCAUUCUUUUUUCCUAUGAAUGCUAAAGCCAUUGUCAAAUAAAAAGAGUAAAUAAAAUAAUUAAUCAAGUAAUUAGUUGAAAGUGAAAUAGGUGACUUAAAACUAUUGCUUUGGUACAUGUUUGUUUGAGGUAAAUAUAGUAGAUAAUAAGAAAUAAAAUCCUCUAACUAUGUUUAUUUGAUAGAAUAAAAAAGUGAGUGUGUGGUUGCUCCAUAGGAGAAGACCACAUGUUAACCAAAGAAUAAGUAACUAGAAAGCUUACACAAGUGUUAAAUGAUCAAUUUCUCACCUAAGCACAUUAAUGAGAACUAAAUGUUGAAGGUCCAUGCCUCCAUGUGGGGAGACCUUAAUUGCUACCUUAAAGGGGCAGUUUAAAAGUGGUCACAUCCUCUAUGCCAAGUUAGUAUUCCAAAAACUAAGAAAGUUAACCUUUGAGUUGAUGCUUAUUUGUUUGGUAGUUUCCUCAUUCUUCUUACUAACUUGACCUUUGAAGGCUCUAUGACUGUAAGGAGCCUAGAGUGGUCACUUUAGGUUCCUUAUUAUUGUAAGGUCCUAACCAUCCAUUGAAGUAAGAAAGUGAACUAAUACUUGGAAAAAUGGUGUCAUCUAUGGUGAAGAUACAAAAAUUCAGCUCACCAAAAAAUCUUAGUAAAGCUACUAAAAAACACCCCACCCCGAGGCAAGGACCUUCAUUUUAGUACUCCUUGAGGUCUACCCAAAUCAAAGACCCGACGUUGAAGAAAUGAAGUCAACUAAACUUAGUUCCAUGCAUGAUAAGGUUGAAAAGCCUGCAUAAAAACCUACAGAAAGCUUGCCUCUUUAUAAGAAUAACUUGAACAUAAAAAGGAAGAAGACCUAUAAAAGGAAAUCAUAAACAACAAAGAAAAAGAAGUUUUUCCCUCCUUUGAAAAAGCUUUCUGUGAAUGCAAAAACCUAUUUUUUUUUUUUUUAUCAAGAAACCUUCCUUUGUAUCCAAAAAUUGGUGGAAUAAAAAUUUUUAAUUACAUAUGAAGAGUUUUAGCUUCUUCAUAUGGGAAUGCAUUAAAAGCCUUGAAGACAUUGUUUAGAUCUAUAGCAACGGUUAGGCAAUAGAAGACUAUGUAAUAGAGUCUUGGUAGGAAAAUGUAAUCAUGAUAGAAAUGAAGUGGAGCAAUGAGUGAGAGCAAACCAUUCAAUAAAUGAAGAAGCUCACUAAAAGAAGCAAUCGACUCAUUCAAGAAAAUGUUGCCUUCAAGGUAAGGGUAAACAAAUGCCAAUGUGAUUUUGACUAGGAACUCUCAUUGGUAAGCACCAAUAAGAUGCAAGUUAAUGAAUAAUAGUUAUCAAAGCAAUUAGACCAACAUAUAGAUUAAAUUGGGAGAGAAAGGUGAAGCAAACCUUAAUUAAACUAACCAAAUAGACCACCUUGCCAGAGGUCCCAAUGCUCUAAGGGCUUCUUACCACUAAAGCUACCACAAAAUGCAUAAUCUUAGUGGAUAAGGCGAUUGAGGCUAAGUCCCUUUAGGAGGAGGAGGAGGCCACAUGAGGGUUUUCCCUCCCUAAGUUUAAUUUCUUUCAAUGAAACUAAAGGCACUCUAGAUAACUCAUGCAUUUCUAUGCAUAUGAUGAUCUUAGAGAAGGGAAAUGAUCGACUUUUAUGCAAAAUCUUCUCCUUCAUCCUCCAAGGACUAACUUUGUAUUGUUUUAUCAACUUACCUUAGAGUUUGUUCCUGAUAUUGAGACCCUAAGGGCGAUGUCUGCCUCCUAGUACAUGCACUUAACAAGACAAAAGAAAAGCCUCAAAUAACCCAAGGUAGUUAUAGCUACCAUCCAUGGUGGCUCAUCUACUAGAUUUGAGUAACUAGACAGGGUAUCAAGAUGUUACAGAAGCAUAUGGCGAUUGAAGCAAAAGUCCUCACAUCCUUGCAUGAAGCAACUACCACUUGUCCAUAUGUCAUAUGCUUCUCUAAUAAAGACUUAAAAGGAGUCCAAACCCUGCCCAAGAUCCAUUGGUUAUUACUUUAAGAAUUAUUGAAUACAACAUGCACCUAUUCUUAGUUGACCUAACAAGUUUAGUUAACUUGCUAAAUAUAUUAGCCCAUAUAUGAACAAAUGAAUAUGGACGAAGGAAAACUAGUUUCAAGUCUUGGGUCAUUAGUGGGACUAGACAAAGUCCUAUGUGGCUCAACUAGGGAAGCAGCUCUAAUGGUUUCAAUUAGUUGUUGCCAUAUAAUGACACAAUUCUUUGUUAUGGAUAUCCUUUUCCCGAUAAUGCCAUUAUGGGAUGAACAUGGAUAUACAACCACAGAGGAACACUAUUCACAUACCAUCAUACAAUUAAAUUCCUAACACUACAAGGAAUAUGGGAAAUAUAUCGGGACUAGGUGGCAACAUGAGUAUGCUACACCAUACCCCUUAAAGCAGUCAACAAGUGCAUCAACCAGGACCUUUAGGAAGUUCAUAAAUCAAAACUCAAAUACAAAUUAGUAGGUGACCCAAGAAAGCAAUUAGAGAACCUAUGGAUUCAUUAUUUGAAAGCCCCUAAACCUAGGAGGUUCCUUCUAGUCCAUGUAAAAAAAAAAAAAAAGGUUUAAGAUGGCUACUAGAAAAAAACACAUCUUUGCUAGGAAACUACAGGACAUCAUGGGCAUUGAUCCCCAAGUCACAUGUCAUCGACUCAACAUAAACCCUAGUGUUUAGCUCCUUAAAAACAUUAGAUUGUGAAAGAAAUGGUAUUUAGGCUCUUAGAUGCUAGAUUUGGUCAUCUAGGUCUUUUAACAACAAAUAGAAGUCAGUAUGCUAGUUUACAUUAAUAACAUGUUAGUAACAAGUAAGAAGAGGAAUGAGUACCUGAUUGACCUCCUAAGAACAUUUCAAACUCUUAGAAAUUACUAAAUGAAGCUAAAUUAGUGAAGUGCACCUUCAAAUGUAGGGUAUGGAAAGUUCCUUAGGUACUUGGUUACAUACAAAGGAAAAGAAGCUAACCCAAACAAAAUAAAAUCAACUUUGGAGAUACCAAUGACCAAAAGGGUUGGAGAAGUCCAAAAGCUCACUAACAAGAUUGGUUCUUGAAAUGGAUUUAUAUAUUGGACAAAAAAUAUAUGUCCUCCUUUAUUUGACAUUAGCAAGAAGGGAAAAUGGACUAAAGGAACCAAAAAAUGCAACUAAGCCUAUGAAUCACUAAAGCAUUACAUGAUGCUAACCUUCACUUUGGAUAAACCUUAGGAUAAGGAGGUCUUACAAGGUCUCAUUAGUAGUAGUAAGUGGAGUGUUAUCUCAAAAAAAAAAAAAAAAAGGAAAAGAGGAGCAACCAAUGUACUAUGUCUAAAAGGCCCUCUUAGAUGUGGAAACCUGAGAUACAUAUAAAUAUUGAAAAACCGAUGCUUGCCCUUUAGAUUGCCACAUUGAAGCUUCAAUGUUACUUCCAAGUGCAUGUUAUUAAGGUAAUGACAAAGUGAUGAGAACUCAAACUUAAUACUUUAAUGGCUUUAAAGAGCCCACUUUAGUGUGUUUGAGGUACCAAAAAAUUAACCCAAGGUUUUGUUUUUUUUUAUAAUACCUUAGAAAAUUAUGUUUGAUGCAUUCUAUGACCAUUCUACAUUCUUUAAGGUGUUUUUUUGUUAGGAUAGAGUCCUUAAAAGUAUGAUAUGAUGUAAUAAAUUUGGAAUUCAAUAUUUAUUUAAUGAUGUUCUAGUUUCACUUUUAUCUAUCCUUAUUCCAUGUAUUGUACUUUAUGAGCAUUCUUAUCUACAUUUUUUGCAUUGCAUGUGACUUAAGUGCAUUAGGAGUUGCACAGAAGAUCUAAGUCAUGGGUUCCUUGCAAAUAGAUUACUUGUUCACAUUCAGUUCAUGGGCGUAGGCAAACCAUUAGAGGUUGCAAUGCGCCACCUCCUAAUUGGAGGGAUGGUUGGUCUUGACUAUUGGGAUGAGUUUUCCAUGAUGAGUGCACUAGUGUGUAUGGUUGCACAUUGAACAGGACCUAUGGUGAUUUAUGACUUAAACCUAUCGAGUAGUCAUGACUCCAUUGAGCUACUUCAUUGUAUUAUCUCUCAAACUUGAGAGAAUAUUGAGUUUGUGCUAAAGUUAAUAGUGGCUUUGGCUUAUAAGUGAGGUCGUAAGCUGAUCAUAUAUUCCCUAUGGAUCAGGUCACUAUUGAUGGAAGUCGAUAGCAAUGGGUAUUCUUAAUAAAGGCACCAUGAUAUCUAUUGGGAUUGAGAUAGUGUGUCCCUUGGGUGAUCUUAAGGAAGUGUGUUCAUGGAAACUUUGGCUAUAGUAGUUCCUUAAGUGGAAUUUGACAUAGACUCUUUGAGAGCUAAGAUAUGUUAAUUAAACACACAAUAGGAAGAUCUGUAACUCAAGGAUGGUAGAAGUAGUCUUGAAAGGCUGAUAGCUUUCACCUUGUUAGACUAUGAACACCAAUUCAUAGGGAGAUUAAACACAAUGGACAGUAGGUCAUGAACCCAAGCACUUAGUGUCUCCGUUGUUAUUUACAUAAGAUACCGGAGUUCAUUUGAUUCUUUGUAGUGGGAUGUUGAAUCAACUUUAAAAUUGGACUAUAAGGGAGCUAGUAUUCCUGUAGGUCCUAGUGGUCCUCGCUAUAAGCUCAUAUUCCUUGUUACAUGGGUAAUGAGGGUUGGAUUGACUUUAGGUUCACUUUUGUGCAUAAGGGCAUUUUGGUAAUUAUGCAAGGUUGUAUAGGAGUAAGUCAUCAAGGUCUCUGAACUGGGCUAAUUGAUUAAUUAGUAGGCCCUAUUGGGUUAGUUAAUCAAUUAGAACCCAUUUUAAACUAGAUUAAGUGACUUCAACCCAUGUGGGCUCAAGUCACUUAAGUCCACUUAGAAACCCUAUAAAUAACCCCUAGGGGUUAGGGUUUCCAUAACUUUUGUCUUCCAUCAUCCAGAGAGAUAGAGAGCCAUAGCCUCCACCAUUUUUUCCUCCUUAUCGAAAGUGUUCCAAGAUCAAGGUUCGAGUCAUUUGGCAAAAGACUUCGGGUUUACGAGACUUCUAUGAUUUCAAUUUUCAUCUUCACCAUGUGGAUUUGAUUCGGGAACACCUAAAUCUAAUGUAUGGUUUUCUUUAGCACUUUUUGAAUCCUUUUUAAGUAUAAAAAUGUUAUUUUUCCAUUGUGCAUAAGAUUUAGAAAAAGCCUAAGAUAGUUAUGCAUGUUCCUAACUUGAUCCGGACUUGGGAAAUGGAGAGAGAUUCGGGUUUUUCCCAUCAUUUUUGGUGCAAUAGAACCUUGUUAGGAAAUCAUAUAGACAAAAAUGCCUAAGUAAGGAGGAAACAUAGAUUGCACACCUAAAAGGUGUGCAAGACUUAAUCAUGCAAUUCUUUCUUAGUGUAAAGCCACAUAGUGCACCUCCCAUGUAUACCUUAAAGACCAAACACACAAGAUCUCUCUAAUGCAUUGGACCAAAUUUCACACCCUAUUCAAGCAACCCAAUCUGCAAACCUCUUAAGUGCUUUAAGCUAAGAUGUUGUGCACCCCCUUACUUGAGUCAACAAGAUGUGUAGUAGUGCAGCCCCUUGAUGUCAUCUAAAUUACAAACCAUUCUUACCUCUACAAUAGCUAAGUACUUAAUAAUUCUUCUAAUGAUUGGCUUACACACCAAAGUAGUAUGUUGUUUAUACCUCAAAGUCUUCAAUUGUACUACCUAAACGUACCUAAGCCAAAUUACAUAGAGAAAAAGAUGCAACUACCGACCAUAAGCUAACACAUCAAGAAUGAUGGCGGGUUGAUUGCAAUGACAAAGGACUUGACCCUUAAUAUAAGAAGAGACAAGUCUUGAGGAGGGGGGGACAAGUUUUGCCUAUAAAUGGAGGAUUGUGAAUAUACAAGUGGAAGCAAAUUAUAGAAAGUGAAAUUGUAGAUAAGUUUUUUCUGCUUGUGGGAACAAAAGUAGGAAUAAGAAUAACUUAAUGUAAUUUUAGUUUUUAAUUUUCCACUGUAAUCUUUUCUUUUCAUUAUAAAUGUUCCCUAAUUUCUAGUUUAAUGAGUUUUCUAGUCUUUUUAAUUAACAUCACAUUUCAGUUUUUCAAUUUCAACUUACAAAUUUGCAUUUUUAGUUCUUUACUUAAUUUUAACAUGCUUAGAUAACCUUUAACACUCUAAGGGGUGAGAGGAGCUCAAGUCUCCCAUAUCUUAGUUUAGCUCUCUAUUGGUUUAUCUGUGCAUUAGUUACAAGCAAUAUGAUCUCUAUUAGUAAUUAUAAUGACCAAAAGAAGUAACCAUGGGGAGAAAAGUCUAUGUUGCAUUGGUUGUGAGCGUUGUAAGUCAAGCAACCUUGGAAGCAUACUUAGGCAUUGUUUUAAUGAUUCUUUCAACUAAGUAUAGGCCUAUUGACAUGAAAAGAAUUUAUCUAAAUCAUUUGGUUAUAAGGAUAUUAAAAAAAAAAAAAACAAUUAGAGGGAGAUGAACGUUAUUAAGGUGGUUCUUGUUCAUUUGAAGCAGGAAACCUUUUUGGUAUAAAUCCUUGCUUUGACCCUAAAUCUGAAAGCAUAAGUUCAAAGCCUUGUUGGUGAGUUGUAUCUAAAAGUGGUGAUCCUAGUGAAUCUCUAGGUUUGAGGUUUUCUUUCCUUUAAUUUUCUAUCUUUUAAACUUUGUGUGUGUAUGUCUAUUUUAUUUAUAAAAUCAUUUUUCUAAUCUUUUAGCUAACAUUCACACCCCUAAAGCUAUUACCUUAGUUGCUACCAAUUAAAGUUCCUUGUGGAGGCAACCUAACAAUUAUAAAAUUAUUAAUUUUAUUUUUUUAUUUUUGGUUAAGGAGUUGAAAGUUUCAAUGAAUGAUCAAGUUUAAUUUCUCUUUGUAAAACUUAACUAUUAAAUAUAUUUCCUAGUUUUGAUAAAAGAAAUGAAUUAGAGAAUGACAAACCAAAAAUUAGUGUCGUCACUAGGGUACUUUCAACAUUGAUGACUCUAAAGGUAUUUUUGUGUAUAUGCUUGUUGUUUUAGAAGCUUAACAAGUAUAUUUCACCCACUCCCCACCUCUCUUUUAGUUGGAUUUUUUUCUUUUUUUACAUAAUUUUUUUUCUUUGGAUUUUCUUUUUCUACUCAGUUAGCAUUUUCAAUUGUUAAAUCCAACAUUUCCAGCAUUUUCUUUAAAGUGAUAUGAUGUAUUAGGGAAAUGAUUUUAAAGGAAGGGAACUAAGAGUGCAUUUGGGAGCGAUUCUACAAAGCAUUUCUAACAUUUCUAACACUUGAGUGAUAAAAAUUUUCAAGUAUUAUGAAUAUUAAAAGUGUUUCCUAGAAUCACUUCCAAAUAGGUUCUAAGUAAUCAACUAGAAGAAACAAUUUUAGAGGAAGGACACUAAGUAAUUAACCAAAAAAAAGUGAUUUUAGAGGAAGGACACUAAGUAAUCAACCAACCCCUAGUUAUCCUUUUCCUCAACACACCAAACCACCACCGUCUCAUAUCUAUUUUCCAAAUUCAACUAUUGGUGGUACUAAUAGAAGUGUGAUGAAUGGGGGUUUUAACCCCAAUAACUAGCCACCUAAGACCAUGAGGGAUUACCUAGUCGGGCCAAUGCUCCUUUUUGCUUGAUAUUUUUUUUUACGCUUUUCAAAUAAACAUUGAGCUUGAAAUGAUCCAAUUUCUAUCUCUAUUUUAUGGAAGGGAGGACGAAAAUCCUUUUUCUUAUUUAAAAGAAUUUGAAUAGGUAUGGUUUAUUUUGGUAGAACUGGAUUUGAUAUCUCUAUUUUAUGAGCCUUCAUGAAACCUGGAUCAUUCGAAACUCAAGGUUUUCUUUUUUCAUUAAAGAAAGAGGAUAAGCAUUGGUGGUAUAGCAUGAGACUCUAUAGGAUAAGUUCUUAGGAUACUUGAUAAAAUAUUUUUUUCACAAAUUUAUUUUGGUAUAUAAAAUUGUUUCCUUUGAAAGACAAAUUAAAAUUUUUUGUUUUAUAGAGAAUGAGACUUUUCAUCAUUGUUAUGAUUAAUUUAAAGCUUUUUUGUUUAACUUCCUUACCAUAGUUUUGAAAACUCAAGGAUUGCUUCUUCUUUUUAAAGGGGACCAUCCCCCUAAAUGAAAUAAUUUGUUGAAAACAUGACUGGUGGGUACUUUAUACAGGAGAAACCAAAAGAAGCACUUAAGCAUUUAAAAUUGCUUGCUGAAAAAUCAAGGGUUUGGGACCCCUUAGUCCUCAAGUGCAUCUUCUAGAACGUGAAAGCCAACCCCAACAACAUCUAAUCUCUCAUCUCAUCUCUCAAUUUAUCAUUUCCCCUUAGAACAAGAGUUUUGACGAAGAUGAUUUUUGGAUGCUGUAAGAGGACGAAGCCACUGAAGUUAAGGAAAAGGAAACUGUGUACAUAGCAGUUGAAAAGAAUUUGAAGAGAACUUCCAACAGGUUGCAAAUAAGGUUAUAAGCUGCAUUUUUUCUUCUUUUCCAAAAAAAAAAAAAACCAAAGAUAGAAAAAGAAAUCCGUAAAGAGCAAGAAACAGAGGAGGAGUGGAGCAAUGUAUUGCAUGAUCACACCUACUUUAUUUGUUUCUCAAUUCCCUUCUCUUUGCAACCCAAAAAUGUUGAUCUUCAAGGUAUCAUCAGAGGGCUUCUCAAUAUCUCUUCUAAUGAAAGUGGCUCUUAACUAGAGGGGAGGGCAUCCCAAAAAUUUUAGGAAACCAUGAAGAAAAAUUUAUCAAAGUGGAUGCUUCCAAUCUACCUGUGGGAAGCAAAGAAAAAGUGAACCAUUGGCUAGCUAGAAGCUAGCCAAAAACUUGUAAAUAGCUUUCAUUUUUUUUUUUCUUUAUUAUUUUUGUUUUUAUUGCUUUGGCCAAUUUAGUGUGUAGGAGCACCAUCAUUGUGAAGCCUAUAAUAUUAUGUUCUCAGUCCACUCAAUACAUUUGGGUAACCUUUAUCAUCUCAUAAGAACUCAAGUAUAAAUUUCUCUAUACUCUAUUGGUUUUAUCAUACUUCAGAGUAGGUGUAAAUUGUUAGCACCAGGAAAGUGUAGGACAUAUAGGAAUUGCGCACUUUUGAGGUUUGCUAACCCAACUUGUAUGAUGACUUAAAUUACGUAUCUGUAGAGCAUAACUCAAAUUGUACACUUUGAAAGCAUGACUGAAAUUCCACACCCUAAGAGAUUAAUUUAAACGGUGCAUCCAAAGGAGCGCAACCAAAAAUUGCACACCUUUAAGUGCGCAAUCAUUUCCCAAGGGAUGCCUACUUAUUCUCUUUUGUAUUAUUGUCCAAGCACGCCAUCCAUAAUAAAAAUCUUUAUUCUCUUAUGUAAACUUUUUGGAAGAAAAAUGCCUUCCCAAAUAAAACCAUAAUUGCUUAGAGACUUUUGUCCACCCCACCAUCAUAUCAAUUGAGGUAACCGAGAAGUCUUCUAAGUUUUAUAUAAAAGAAGUAAUUUUCACUAAAGUAGUCACUGCAAUAAAUACUAAAAUAAUCCAACGAAGCAUUCAGUGGAAUGAGCAUAUUAUAAAAUUGUACAUGGGAACCCGACAGUAAUUCAUAUCAAGAAAGUAGAUAGGGGAUAGUAAAUAUAGCUCACCAUGAAACCCCACCAUUAGAGCUCUGUACAGAAGUUCGAAUCCAGGCUUGUCUGCGAAAGGACUUGGAUCUACAUCAUCUCUGGUGACGCUUAAUAAAUAUGAAGUCAGCUCUUUAUGACCAUACCUAACAGCGCUGUGAAGAGGCGCAAAAUUGUGGCGUUGGCAGAUAUUGGGCAAGCUUGGGUUUCUGUUCACUAACAACUUGACUGCUUUUAUAUUGCCAGCCCUUGCAGCGUUGAAAAGGGUAGUGGCGCCAUCAGAAUCCCGCAGAGCCAGUGCCUCACUUGGCAUAAACUCAACGAACUUCUCCACGAAAUCCAUUCUGGCCUCUCCUAACUCAACUGCUAUGUGAAGCAUUGGGGAAUCAUCUGUUCCAAUCGGGGCGGAGAAUGAUUUGGGAUCAUCCGCCAAUAAUUUUGAAGCACUUUCCCAGUCACCAUUGAGCACAGCUUUGUACAGUUCCAAGUAAUAGAAUUCUGCAGUCACAAAACCAAAAGAUGUAUACCUCGCAGAGAAGAUACUCUCAUCCAAAGAGAAACAACAGCAGCCCCUUUUUCCCAGAGUCUUCAAAAGAUACAGGAAAUGGGCCAGGAACCAUUGAAGCAUAAGAGGUGCAAUGAUAGAGUCUUCCAAGUCAACUUUAUUUAGUUGAGUAUUGGGUCAGGAGUAGAUAUAGCGUUGAAACGUUAUGACUGGUGGAUGAUAGUCAUUCAAAAUAAACAAAGAAAAUUAGGGGGUAACUUUGAGCCGUUUGUUUUCGCAUGAUUUCUUCUGACUCUGUUGCUGGGCAUAGACCUCGACUGCCAUACAAGCACAGUCACCAGCGGCUGCCGUGGGAAUUAAUCCUAUGCACCACACAUUGCUAUGAUAGUUUACAAUAACUAAUUAUAUAAAAUCUGUUAAAAUAUUUUAUAUAAUUAACUUUUUGGAAUUUUUUUUUUAUCAAGUAGUAAAAUAAAGAAAAUUUAGGAAAAAAAUAUUUUUGAAAAAUGAUAAGUUUAAAAAAACGAUAAAGUUUUUGUAAAAUAUAGAAAAGGAUACAAGGCUAUUAAAUCAUAAUUAUAUGAUAACCUUUUAGUAUUUCAAUCUUUGAAUUUUUUUUGGAGAUUAUUUCCAUAAAUUCCACAUUCCAAAAACAAUGAUAAUCUUUACACAAUAUUAUUGUCAUAAAAAAUAAAAUUUUUUAAAAAAAUUAGAGAUUACAAAGAAUAUAAGGAUACGAAGAAUGUGAGAAUUGUCAUAUUUUUCGUACCCUCCUCACAUUCUUCAUGGCCCAACCCAUUUGAAUUUUUUUAUUUUUUUAUUUUUUUCAAACAUUAUUUACUUCACUUGCAAGUGUAAUUAGUGUUUUUACACAAUAUUAUUGUCAAAUGAAGUAAACAAAAAAAUCCUUAUUCUCUUAUGUAAACUUUUUGGAAGAAAAAUGCCUUCCCAAAUAAAACCAUAAUUGCUUAGAGACUUUUGUCCACCCCACCAUCAUAUCAAUUGAGGUAACCGAGAAGUCUUCUAAGUUUUAUAUAAAAGAAGUAAUUUUCACUUCCUUUUGCAUGCACUCAAACAAGAACACACACAAUAACGCAACAUGAAAACUCCAAAGAAUCUUAAAACCAAAACACUGAGCCUAAAUAAGAUAAGGAAGUGAGAUAAAAAUGAACAAUCAAGCCAAUUUGUUGAAGUCAAUAGGCACAAUACUAAAAUAAUCCAACAAGCAUUCAGUGGAAUGAGCAUUUGGACAGAAAGGGAACACAUUAAAUUUAAAAGCACUUGAAGCUAGCAAUGGGUGAUAUUGAUAUUUUUGGUCAAUCUCACCCUCAGUGCAGAAUUCCAAAUUGUUUCCAACUUUUCUGUAAUAUUUUUCUUACAUUUUUAUAUUAUCCAAAGACAGAAAAUUAAUUAUUCCUUUCAAGUUUUUUUUUUCUUUUUUAUUUAUAGGACAUAGCUAAACAGGAUUAGCAUAAAAGAAAAUAACUUGACUUAUAAACAAAAGCAAAGGAGAUGCAAUGGCAAACACAAAGCAAUUUAAAAGGGGCAAGCAGUAAAGAAACUAACAAUGAUAUAUUAUGAGUUGCCAUAAGUUGAAGCGACUUCCACUUGGGAAAGCCCAAGGCCUUUUAGCCAAUACUGUCAAAGGGGCAAAAUCCUCAUCAGAAUCAUUAGCAUCAUCGUGGCGGGCGGAAUCGAAAUGGCAUGUGGCAAGGUCAGGAUAACGUUCAACCAGAUACAGUGCUACAUCUGCAUAUUAUAAAAUUGUACAUGGGAACCCGACAGUAAUUCAUAUCAAGAAAAUAGAUAGGGGAUGGUAAAUAUAGCUCACCAUGAAACCCCACCAUUAGUGCUCUGCGCAGAAGUUCGAAUCCAGGCGAAUUUGAGAAAGGAUAUGGAGGUUCAUUAUCUCUGGUGACGCUUAAUAAAUAUAAAGUCAGCUCUUUAUGACCAUACCUAACAGCGCUGUGAAGAGGCGCAAAAUUGUCGCGUUGGCAGAUAUUGGGCAAGCUUGGGUUUUUGUUCACUAACAACUUGACUGCUUUUAUAUUGCCAGCCCUUGCAGCGUUGAAAAGGGCAGUGACGCCAUCAGAAUCCCGCAGAGCCAGUGCCUCACUUGGCAUAAACUCAACCAACUUCUCCACGAAACCCAUUCUGGCCUCUCCUAACUCAACUGCUAUGUGAAGCAUUCGGGAAUCAUCUGUUCCGAUCAGGGCGGAGAAUGAUCGUGGAUCAUCCUUCAAUAAUUUUGAAGCACUUUCCCAGUCACCAUUGUGUUGGGGAUAAAUGUAUGCCCAAGAUCCAAUCUAUCAUGUAAUCAACUUUAGUUUUAAUAAGGUAUUAAUUCUUUAUUUCAUUAUCAUAUCUGUUUAAAAUAGUUUAUAUGAUAAGGUCCUUGAUUAAAAUUUGAAAAUUGUUAUCAUGAUAGAGAUUAUGAUAAUGAGAAGCAAUUCUUUUAAUAAUUUUAAUCUAAACUGUUCUUGAUCAUAGGAUUAUUGUCAACAGGACAUCAAUAAUCCAGAUAGAUCAAUAUAUAUGUGAUGGUCUUUAUUGGAUAAAGAUUGAUAUAUCUCAUUUGUUAAAUUACAUAUAUAGAUGAUGCACAUGUAGAUGUGAUCAUUGAACUGACUCAACUGAGAAUUUCUAAUGGUCAUCUUUACCUUAAAUUGUCAAUAGGAAUUUCUCAAGAAGAAAUAUAAUAGUUUUCUUUGACCUGAGAUUAUCAAAGUAAUUAACAAGUUAUUUAUUAUAUUUUAAUCCCGGACACCUAAUGCCUUAGGGCACUAGUUGAAUGGAUAUUGGAUAUAAUUAAAUACUUGUAGAAUUAAUGAUUAAUCAAGAAGGAAUCCAUCAACUCGUGGUAAUGAGUUUGAGCUCUAUGAUAAAAAUAAGACCUUGGCCAAGGGCAAUUGAAUGAAUGAAGAAAUGAGUUUCUUAAGUUAUUCACUAAAUAAAUAAUGUGCUGACUUAUUAGAGUUUGACAGUAAUACCAUACUCUAGAGUUAGCCCAGAGCUGUGAAUGAUGGAAGGAAAUAUUACAUUAUUCUUCUACCGGUUCUUGAAAGUAAAAGAUAUUACUUCAUACUAUCUGGACGUUAAGGAGUGUUGCUAGAUGCCUACCUUAAUUAGUAAAUUGAUUUGAUUAAUUUACUACCAGCUUAGUAAUGAACCUACGGGGUUACACACAAACGAGUGUUUUAAUCUUUGCAAAGAACUAUUUAUUAUUAUUUGAUAAUUAAAUUAGAGAAUUUAAUUUUAAUCAAAUAAAUAAAUAUGUUCUAUGUGGAAUAUUAUUAUAUUCUUUGCUAGCACCAAGAAUAUAAUUAAUAUAUAGAUAAAAAAAUAAAAUAUUUUUCUUUGGACGUGGAAGUUAGUCCACGAGAAUGUUUGCUAAACAUUUGCAAACAUAUGGGUACAUGCAGCAACUUACAGGAGGGAUGUGGGUUUUGUUUUUAACUUACAAGACUUGGUCAAAGUGUUUUUCAAAUGCUAUUGAAAAUAGCAAAAGAAAAACAAAUGGACCAAUAGAAUCUCUUAGUAGCCCAAAAAAGAAGGAGGACACGAUAGAGAUAGAUUAAGUGAUAAAAUCAAAAAUCAAAUUAGUUGAGUUAUCUUAUCACUUAAAACAGAAGUUGUAUCGGAUAUGCUAUAUAGCAUAUAUACACAAUCUGAAUAAGGAUCGAUCUAUCUUUAUCCUCCUUGUUUUUACGCCAAAGAAAUACAAAGUGUUGUUCUAUUUUUUUUAAGUUCCGCGUAUCAAAGGGUUGAUAGCAAAGAUUAAUUUCGGUGUGGAUACACGUAGAGUCUUCAUACAAUUGGAGAAAAUUUUAUGCUUGAAGAACUGAUAUCCAGGUUAUUAUUUUAAAUUUUUUGAUAGCUGCAGUAUAUAUUUUGAAUGCAAAAUAGAUCAAUUUUCCGCUGUAUGUGUUAUAAAUUUAUUUUAUAACCUUUCAAUUGGUAUCAGAGCCAGGUUUAUUUUUGUGUUUAAAAUUAUACUACCAAUAUAAUUUUCGUGACGUGAAAGCUUUAUCCUCUGUUAUUGCUGUUCAUUAGACUGCAACAGUUGCAGAAGUAAAGAUUGAUGCGACAAUUGCUUAUUGCUUUUCUGUUGAUAUACGUGCCUAAUAGAUAUUUCAAAUUUAUAUUCACAUGCUGAAGUAUUACUUUUUGAAUUAUAUAUAUAUGUGAUCUUUUACUUUGAAUCCCGCAUGCAUAUAUAUUUUUAUAUGCUAAAGUCUUGUCAUGCUUUAUCAUUGUGAUAAGUAAAAGUUGAUUCAAAUAAAUGAUCCUCUGUCUUGCCAUUUAUCUAAUAUAAAAUAUAGUAAUAUAUAGUUGAUAUAUUUUGACUUACGUUUUAUUAAAACUAUUUGGCUUUAAUAUGAAUAUAUAAAUAUACAUGUACCUGGAGAGGUAUAAUUCAUUAUUGAUUUUGUUGAAUUAUUAUAUAUAGUGAUAUAUAUUAAUUCUUUGAUAGAUGAAUUCUAUUCAUGUAUAAUAAUGUGUUUAUGUAUAUUUGCAAGUUGUGUAAAUUUUUUAGCAUGUGAUGAAAUUUUUUUUAUUAAUAACAAGGAACGACCUGAUAACCAGGAGACUUGUAAUUAAUUACAGCAUGUAUGUUUAAAAUAAUUUUAUACUUAAUGUCUGGACUACCCAGAGAAGUAUUAAAUUAAAUUCAUAGAUAUUAAUAAGUUUGACCUGACAACCAGGAACUUAUGUAAUAUAUUAUUCUUUUGAAAUUGUAUGAGAUACAUUUUGUCUUAGAAUAUGUAUGAGAAACGACUUGAUAACCAAGUGGCUUAUUCAUAGUUUUAAGAAAUUAUAUAUGUUUUGACAUAAUUAUAUUUUAAUAUCCAGAAUGUCUUCCUUAUCACUCCGUUCCAUACUUGAAACUUCAAAAUUGGUUGGAGCCAAUUAUGAUGACUGGUACCGCAAUCUGAGAAUUGUUCUCAUGCAUGAAAAACUUAUCAAUAUAAGUGAUAAGCCUGCUAUAACUGCACCAGCUGACACAAAUCAUGCUGAAGCAACCAAGACCUAUCAAAAUACUUGGAAGAAUGUCUUUCUGCAAAAUGCAUAAUGCUAGCAUCCAUGAGUCCUGAACUUCAGAGGCAACAUGAGGAUAUGGAACCACCUGCAAUCAUCGAGCAUCUUAAGAAGAUGUACGGUGGACAAAGUAGGACAGCUAGAUACCAGUUAUCUAAGGCUUUGUUCAGGUCCUCAUUAGGUGUAAAUGCUCAAGUUGGACCCCAUGUUCUGAAGAUGAUUGAUCUUAUUGAACAACUUGAGAAGUUGGGGUGCACGCUUGGAAAGGAACUUUCUCAAGAUUUGAUUUUACAAUCACUUCCUGAUUCUUUGUCACAAUUCAUUGUGAAUUUCAACAUGAACAAAAUGAGUUGUGAUCUGCAUGAGAUGCUUAACUUGUUAAUUGAUUAUGAGAAUCAAGUUUCCUCUGAAAAGAAUAAAGGAAUUGUCAUGGUGGUUGGCAAGACUUCUAAGAAAAAGGGCAAAGGUAAAUAUAUACCAAAAAGGAAACCUCUUGGAACUAAGGGUGGUGUGACCAAACCCAAAUACAAGAAGGUUAAAACUGACCACAGUGAUGCUGAAUGCUUCUUCUGUAAAGAGAAAGGACAUUGGAAGAGAAACUGCAAGAAAUAUCUUGAUUCUUUGAAAAACAAGAAACAAGGUAAGACAUUAAUGAAAAAUGUUUUCAUGAUUUCUUUAACUGUCACAGAUUCUUCAACAUGGGUAUUAGAUACCGGUAGUAGUUUUAACAUCUACAAUAUGUUGUAGGGGCUGAAGAUAACUAGAUGGUUGAAGAAAGGAGAAAUCAACCUUCAAGUAGGGAAUGGAGCAAAUGUUGCCGCCUUAGCUUUAGGAUCAAUUUCUUUAAAUAUGCCCACUGGCAAAGUACUAGUGUUAAAUGAUUGUUAUUAUGUUCCGAACUUUGUUUCAAAUAUAAUUUCAAUUUCUAUGUUGGACAAGCGAGGUUUUCGCAUUAUUUUCAAUAAUAACAUUUGCUCAAUUUAUCAUGAUGAUGAUUUAUAUGUAAAUGGUUAUCUCCAACAUGGCAUUUAUGUCUUACCUGAUGUGAAUUAUAAUUCAGUUAUGCAUGUUUCUUCUAGUUUUAAAAGAAAAAGAGAUAGUCAAUUAAAUAAAACAUAUCUUUGGCACUGUAGGCUUGGUCAUGUUGGUGAGAAAAGAAUUAACAAGUUAUACAAGGAAGGUUACCUUGAUAAUUAUGAUUAUGAAUCAUAUAAAACUUGUGAAUCUUGUCUCAAAGGAAAAAUGACUAAAUCUCCAUUUAUUGGAACUGGAGAAAGAGCCUCUGAAUUAUUGGGACUAGUUCAUACAGAUGUUUGUGGACCCAUGAAAAUUCAAGCCAAAUGAGGAUAUUCUUAUUUUAUAACCUUCACUGAUGACAUGUCAAGAUAUGGUUUUUUGUAUCUCAUGAAACAUAAAUCUGAGUCAUUUGAAAUGUUCAAAAGGUUUCGCAGUGAAGUUGAAAAACAAACAGGUAACAGUAUCAAAGUGCUGAGAUCUGAUAGAGGAGGAGAAUAUCUCAGUGAAAAUUUUAUUGACUAUCUAAGAGAGAAUGGGAUUCUCUCACAGUGGACACCCCCAGGAACACCACAGCACAAUGGUGUAUCAGAAAGGAGAAAUCGAACCUUAUUAGAUAUGGUAAGAUCUAUGAUGAGGUUCACUGAUCUUCCAUUAAAUUUAUGGGGAUAUGCUUUAGAAGCAGCAGCUUAUUUACUAAACAAAAUCCAUACAAAAACAAUAUCUACAACUCCGUAUGAGAUAUGGAAAGGGCGUAAACCAAAUCUCAAACACAUUAAGGUUUGGGGUUGUCCAGCUUACGUUAAGAAAUUACAAACAGAUAAACUUGAGGCAAGGUCAGAUAAGUGUAGGUUCAUUGGGUAUCCCAAAGAAACAAUGGGAUAUUAUUUCUACCACCCUUUAGACCAUAAAGUGUUUGUGGCAAGAGGAGGAACCUUUCUAGAAAGGGAAUUUCUUGCAGAAGGGAGUCAUGGCAAAGAAAUAGAGCUUGAUGAAACUCAAGAAGAAACCAAUGAAACAACAGCAGCUCAAGAACAUGAGAUGGAAUUUGAGCAACCUUUCUUUGAUGUCUUAAAAUCAACACAAAGGUUACAAUCUCCAACAAUUGUGGCUCCAGAACCAGCUAUAGUUCAAGAACAAGUUAAUGAACCUGAACCAGCUGUAGUUCAAGAACAGGUUAAUGAACCAAUCUUAGAACAGAUUCAGCAACCUCUGAAUCCAAUACAUGAGCCUCUAAGAAGGUCUAGUCGAGCACAUCGUGCGCCGGAUAGACUAAACUUGAUGGUUCAAGAUGACUUGUCUAAUGAGGUUCAUCAUAAUGAUGAUGACCCUAAGAACUAUGAAGAGGCUAUGCAAAGCUUGGACCGCAAUAAAUGGCAAGAAGCCAUGGAAUCCGAAAUAGAAUCAAUGAAGAUCAACAAAGUAUGGACUUUGGUUGAAGCUUCAAAGGAUAUAAAACCAAUUGGUUGUAAAUGGGUUUACAAGAAAAAGAUUGGAGCAGAUGGAAAAGUUGAGACUUACAAAGCUCGCCUUGUUGCUAAAGGAUAUCGUCAAAAAGAAGGAAUUGAUUAUGAUGAAACUUUUUCCCCAGUGGCAAUGCUCAAAUCAAUUCGGAUUCUACUUGCCAUAGCAGCAUACUAUGAUUAUGAAAUAUGGCAAAUGGAUGUGAAAACAGCUUUUCUUAAUGGUGAGUUGAAAGAGGAUGUAUACAUGACACAACCUGAAGGAUACACAUCAAUGUCUGAUCAUAAUAAAGUUUGCAAGUUGCGACGAUCCAUUUAUGGAUUAAAACAAGCUUCAAGAAGUUGGAACAUACAUUUUAACAAGACAAUCGAAAAGUUCGAUUUUGUUAAAUGUGAAGAAGAACCUUGUGUGUACAAAAGGUUUAGUGGGAGCACAAUCAUUUUCUUAGUGUUAUAUGUAGAUGACAUAUUGCUUAUAGGAAAUGAUAUACCAGCAAUGCAAGGGACAAAGGUUUGGCUAUCAGAACAGUUCUCCAUGAAAGAUUUGGGAGAAGCAGCCUAUAUUCUAGGAAUAAAGAUUUAUAGAGAUAGAUCUAAAAGGUUGCUUGGACUAUCCCAAUCCAUGUACAUUGAUACCAUCUUAAAGAGGUAUAAUAUGGAAAACUCCAAAAGGGGCUAUUUACCAAUAGGAACUGGAGUUACUCUUAGUAGGGAGGAUUGUCCUAAAACUCCUAAAGAGAGAGAACGCAUGAAUAGGGUACCAUAUGCUAGCGCAGUGGGAGCUAUUAUGUAUACCAUGACUUGUACACGUCCUGAUGUCGCUUAUGCACUAAGUGUAGCUAGUCGAUAUCAGGCAAACCCUGGUGAGGAACAUUGGAAAGUGGUCAAGACCAUUCUUAAAUACUUAAGAAGAACUAAAGACCAAUUCCUUAUCUAUGGAGAAUCUGAAUUAAAAUUAAAGGGUUAUACUGAUGCAAGUUUUGCAUCAGAUAAAGAUGAUAGCAAAUCUAUUUCAGGUUAUGUUUUCACCUUAAAUGGUGGUGCAGUGAGUUGGAAAAGCUCCAAACAAGCUACAGUAGCAGAUUCAACUACUGAAGCCGAAUAUAUAGCAGCAAGUGAGGCAGCUAAGGAAGCAGUUUGGAUGAAGAAGUUCAUAUCUGAACUUGGUGUGGUUCCUUCAAUUGAAGAACCAAUUCCACUGUUAUGUGACAAUAAUGGAGCAAUUGCUCAAGCAAAGGAACCAAGAUCACACCAAAAGUCUAAACAUGUCUUGCGAAUGUAUCACUUGAUUAGAGAAAUCAUUGAACGUGGUGACGUUAAGAUUGAAAAGAUAGAUGGAAAAGAGAAUGCGGCAGACCCAUUUACCAAAGCACUUGGCAUAACGCAGUUUGACAAGCACAAAUGGGAAGUGGGAAUGAAAUACAUGACUGAUUGGCUCUAGUGCAAGUGGAAGAUUGUUGGGGAUAAAUGUAUGCCCAAGAUCCAAUCUAUCAUGUAAUCAACUUUAGUUUUAAUAAGGUAUUAAUUCUUUAUUUCAUUAUCAUAUCUGUUUAAAAUAGUUUAUAUGAUAAGGUCCUUGAUUAAAAUUUGAAAAUUGUUAUCAUGAUAGAGAUUAUGAUAAUGAGAAGCAAUUCUUUUAAUAAUUUUAAUCUAAACUGUUCUUGAUCAUAGGAUUAUUGUCAACAGGACAUCAAUAAUCCAGAUAGAUCAAUAUAUAUGUGAUGGUCUUUAUUGGAUAAAGAUUGAUAUAUCUCAUUUGUUAAAUUACAUAUAUAGAUGAUGCACAUGUAGAUGUGAUCAUUGAACUGACUCAACUGAGAAUUUCUAAUGGUCAUCUUUACCUUAAAUUGUCAAUAGGAAUUUCUCAAGAAGAAAUAUAAUAGUUUUCUUUGACCUGAGAUUAUCAAAGUAAUUAACAAGUUAUUUAUUAUAUUUUAAUCCCGGACACCUAAUGCCUUAGGGCACUAGUUGAAUGGAUAUUGGAUAUAAUUAAAUACUUGUAGAAUUAAUGAUUAAUCAAGAAGGAAUCCAUCAACUCGUGGUAAUGAGUUUGAGCUCUAUGAUAAAAAUAAGACCUUGGCCAAGGGCAAUUGAAUGAAUGAAGAAAUGAGUUUCUUAAGUUAUUCACUAAAUAAAUAAUGUGCUGACUUAUUAGAGUUUGACAGUAAUACCAUACUCUAGAGUUAGCCCAGAACUGUAAAUGAUGGAAGGAAAUAUUACAUUAUUCUUCUACCGGUUCUUGAAAGUAAAAGAUAUUACUUCAUACUAUCUGGACGUUAAGGAGUGUUGCUAGACGCCUACCUUAAUUAGUAAAUUGAUUUGAUUAAUUUACUACCAGCUUAGUACUAAACCUACGAGGUCACACACAAACGAGUGUUUUAAUCUUUGCAAAGAACUAUUUAUUAUUAUUUGAUAAUUAAAUUAGAGAAUUUAAUUUUAAUCAAAUAAAUAAAUAUGUUCUAUGUGGAAUAUUAUUAUAUUCUUUGCUAGCACCAAGAAUAUAAUUAAUAUAUAGAUAAAAAAAUAAAAUAUUUUUCUUUGGACGUGGAAGUUAGUCCACGAGAAUGUUUGCUAAACAUUUGCAAACAUAUGGGUACAUGCAGCAACUUACAGGGGGGAUGUGGGUUUUGUUUUUAACUUACAAGACUUGGUCAAAGUGUUUUUCAAAUGCUAUUGAAAAUAGCAAAAGAAAAACAAAUGGACCAAUAGAAUCUCUUAGUAGCCCAAAAAAGAAGGAGGACACGAUAGAGAUAGAUUAAGUGAUAAAAUCAAAAAUCAAAUUAGUUGAGUUAUCUUAUCACUUAAAACAGAAGUUGUAUCGGAUAUGCUAUAUAGCAUAUAUACACAAUCUGAAUAAGGAUCGAUCUAUCUUUAUCCUCCUUGUUUUUACGCCAAAGAAAUACAAAGUGUUGUUCUAUUUUUUUUAAGUUCCACGUAUCAAAGGGUUGAUAGCAAAGAUUAAUUUCGGUGUGGAUACACGUAGAGUCUUCAUACAAUUGGAGAAAAUUUUAUGCUUGAAGAACUGAUAUCCAGGUUAUUAUUUUAAAUUUUUUGAUAGCUGCAGUAUAUAUUUUGAAUGCAAAAUAGAUCAAUUUUCCACUGUAUGUGUUAUAAAUUUAUUUUAUAACCUUUCACAUUGAGCACAGCUUUGUACAGUUCCAAGUAAUAGAAUUCUGCAGUCACAAAACCAAAAGAUGUAUACGUCAGCCUAGAUUUCCCUAAUAUGUAUAUUUCUUCAACGUUCACAAUGUCCUAAUACUAAAAUUAUUUUUAAAAAAUAAAUCAUUUAAGUUAUGUUUGGUUCUUAGAAAAUUUGACAAAAAAAUAGAGGGGAAAGAAAAGAAAGUAAAUUGAAAAAAUAGAAGGCAAGAAAAAGUGAAAUAAAAUACAUCUAAAAUCAAUAAAUUAAUUAUUUUUAAUUAAUUUAUUUUAAUUAUAUUUUAUUUUCUUAAAUAUUUUUUUUCGAUAUAACCAAAUACGGGAAAAUCAUUUUCCUUGAUAUCUUUUCUUUGCUAAUUAUUUUCUUGGACUUCUUUGUUUACAUCUAAUCAACAUCUUUAUAUAUUUCAAUAAUAGUUUGAACCUCCAAUAAACUACACGAAUUAAAAUUUAAUUUUCUUCCAUUUUUUAUUUUAACAGCAGGUUGUAAAAUACUUCUACUUGUAUACUAAUUAUGCCCAAAAGUUUCAGGAGGACCUCAAACGGAAAUGGGCAUGAACAUGGUUUUCAGCAUCUCACCGGAGCUGCUAGUCCUUCGCAAAGAUGAAGAUGAAACCACUGAAACAUAUUCAUUGGUAUGGUGUGCCGUGUCGAUGGUAGUAGUUCUUUUCAAUGAUGAAGUGGAAGAGACUGGGCCAUAUUCAUCAGUAUCCUGCGCCAUAUUGAUGCUGCUACAGUUAGGAUUGUUUGGGCUGUCAUCGAUUACCGAGAGUGGUAAUGAAGAGGAAGCCAUUACAGUGAACUCCUCAUCAUGCUCAGCAAUGUCCAUGUUACUGUUUGUAGGGCUGUUUGCGCUGUUGUCAUUUAUAAGACGUAGUGAAGAAGAAGAAGCCAUUACAACAAAUUCUUUAUCGUGCUGAUAGUCAUUGCCAUGUUUAGCGAAGUUAUUCUAAUGUGCAACAGAAAACCUAAACAAAAUCUGCAGUUGACAAAGGUCAAAAUUAACUUACCUCGCAGAUGGAUUUGUUAUCUAUGAUAGAAGAUUAUAUUUAACUAUAUCAAGGCAGAGAAGAUACUCUCAUCCAAAGAGAGACAACAGCAGCCCUUUUUCCCAGAGUCUUCAAAUGAUACAGGAAAUGGGCCAGGAACCAUUGAAGCAUAAGAGGUACAAUGAUAGAGUCUUCCAAGUCAACUUUAUUUAGUUGAGUAUUGGGUAAGGAGUAGAUAGCGUUGAAACGUUAUGACUGGUGGAUGAGAGUCAUUCAAAAUAAUAGGCAUACAUGAUUUAUUCAUAUAUAAAUUAAACAAAGAAAAUUAGGGGGUAAUUUUGAGCUGUUUGUUUUCGCAUGAUUUCUUCUGACUGUGUUGCUGGGCAUUACUAGGUCUUUUCUUUUUAAUUUUUCAUGUUUUAUUUUAAGACGAUAUCCAGAAGUAGUAGGUAUGGUAUAUGAAUUAUGGUCUGCGGGCAUGUUGAACACAGACUUGAAUUUCACUUAGAAUGAUAAACAUUCAUAGAGCCAAAUGUAAAUCCAGGCGAAUUUGAGAAAGGAUAUGGAGGUUCAUUAUCUCUGGUGACGCUUAAUAAAUAUAAAGUCAGCUCUUUAUGACCAUACCUAACAGCGCUGUGAAGAGGCGCAAAAUUGUCGCGUUGGCAGAUAUUGGGCAAGCUUGGGUUUUUGUUCACUAACAACUUGACUGCUUUUAUAUUGCCAGCCCUUGCAGCGUUGAAAAGGGCAGUGACGCCAUCAGAAUCCCGCAGAGCCAGUGCCUCACUUGGCAAAAACUCAACCAACUUCUCCACGAAACCCAUUCUGGCCUCUCCUAACUCAACUGCUAUGUGAAGCAUUCGGGAAUCAUCUGUUCUGAUCGGGGCGGAGAAUGAUCGUGGAUCAUCCUUCAAUAAUUUUGAAGCACUUUCCCAGUCACCAUUGAGCACAGCUUUGUACAGUUCCAAGUAAUAGAAUUCUGCAGUCACAAAACCAAAAGAUGUAUACGUCAGCCUAGAUUUCCCUGAUAUGUAUAUUUCUUCAACGUUCACAACAUCCUAAUACUAAAAUUAUUUUUUAAAAAAUAAAUCAUUUAAGUUAUGUUUGGCUUUUAUAAAAUUUGACAAAAAUUACAAGGAAAAGAAAGUAAAUUGAAAAAAUUGAAGGUUAGAAAAAGUGAAAUAAAAUACAUCUAAAAUCAAUAAAUUAAUUAUUUUUAUAUGCUACUCAUUUCACUUAUUUUAAUUAUUUAAUAUAAAAAUUAAAUAAUUUAAAAUUUCAUAAAUUUAUAACUAAUUUUAAUUAUAUUUGAUUUUCUUAAAUAUUUUUUUUCGAUAUAACCAAAUACGGGAAAAUUAUUUUCCUUGAUAUCUUUUCUUGGACUUCUUUGUUUACCUCUAAUCAACAUCUUUAUAUCUUUCAAUAAUAGUUUGAACCUCCAUUUUUUAUUUUAACACUUCUACUUGUAUACUAAUUAUGCCCAAAAUACACGGAAAUGGACAUGAACAUGGCUUUCAGCAUCUUACCGGAGCUGCUACAGUUAUUGGUAAGGUGUGCCGUGUCGAUGGUAGUAGUUCUUUUCAAUGAUGAAGUGGAAGAGGAAGCAACAGUUAGGAUUGUUUGGGCUGUCAUCGAUUACAACAAAUUCCUUAUCGUUCUUAUAGUCAUUGCCAUGUUUAGCAAAGUUAUUCUAAUGUGUAACAGAAAACCUAAACAAAAUCUGCAGUUGACAAAGGUCAAAAUUAACUUACCUCGCAGAUGGAAGAUUAUAUUUAACUAUAUCGAGGCAGAGAAGAGAGUCUCAUCCAAAAAUAAAAACUUUGCUCUCAAAGUAUUCUAAGAUGAUCAACAAGCCCUAAGAAUCAUGUAGGAAAAAUUUUAAAAAUUUUCUCUAACUAUAAACCAAAAAUUCUAACACCCUAAAUUUCCAAGCAAAAUAAACGAAUUGUGUGUAACCAAAAUCAAUCUUGUUGUGCUACGCUCGGGUUUUCGGGGGUCAAGCUCCUCGUUGAGGUCGUAGGGGUCGGGGGGCAACACCCUCUAGAAUUUUUUUUUCAUUAUAUUUAUUAUUUUUUAUUUAUCUAUCCAACUGGAACAAUAGAAACCCUAAACAAUGUUAAUGAGAGUUGGGUAACACUACAUUUUAUAUGGAGCAACACUACACAACGAAACCAUAAAGAUCAAGGAAAAUCCAUGAAAAAUAAACAAGAAAUGAGUAUGAGUGUAAUGCGUACCUGGAAUGUGACAAACCCACAAUGAAACCCUAAAAUCGCCUUCAAUGGAAGUUAGGAUGAUGAACAAGGAAAGAGGAAACAAGGGAAAAAGGAGAUGAAAAUUGUAAUAUCUGAUAGAAAUAAAGGUAUAUAAAAUAUCGUUUUUUCACCAACAAAAAUUAUCAAAACUUUUCAACACUAUCUACUCUACAGAAUGUUUGUUAAAGUCUUCCUUGGAGCAAAAUGACCUCCACAAGCUCCCUCAUGGCACAUUCACAAUAUGUUUUGUUGUUCAUCCUCUGGAACACAUCUCCGAAUAAUUUGAUUUGGGCAAAACUUAUACAAAUAUGGAUCAUCCCAAGCAUAGUGUUUUGCUCACGAAAGAAAAUACUUUUUCAUCUCCAUGUUCCAUUAUGAGAGAAGCUCUCUAAUUGCCAAGUAGCUGAGUAUAUUUGCGAACCAAGGCAACUCUCCACUACACAAAGUGCAUCAUCAAGAAACUCAUCAUUCAUCUUUUCUUUCUCGAAAUGUGACUCUACUUUAACUCAGGAGAGAUGAUUAGUAACCAGAUUCUCUUCCCUUGCUUAUCCUUGAUUUGAAUGUUAAAUUCUUAAAGAAGAAGGAUCCUCUCUUUGACCUAGUACGACUCCCACUACAUAGUCAAUCGCAUUACACAUCAACUCAAAUGGAAGAGACCAAUUGGGAGGUCUCACAAUUGGUGUAGUAGUGAGGAGUGACUUUAGCCUCUCAAAAGCUUCUUGGCAUGCUUUAGUCCAUAUGAAUUCUGCAUCCUUAAGUAAUAAAGCACAAAGAGGUUGAGAGACUUUUUAGAAGUCGUGUAUGAACCUUCUAUAAAAAUAUGCAUGCCCCAAAAAUUGUCUCACCCCUUUAACAGUAUUGGGCGAAGGUAGCUUUGAGAUGAGCUCAAUUUUUGUUGAAUCUACCUGAAUGCCUUCUCUAGAGAUGAUAUGACCAAGUACUACCCCUGAGGUUGCCAUGAAGUGACAUUUAUCCCAAUUUAGGACCAAGUCCUUCUCAAUGCACCUUUUCAAAACUUUUUUCAAAUUUAAGAGACAAUCAUCAAAGGUCUUCCCAUAAACUGUUAGAUCAUCCAUGAAAGCUUCCAUGAUUCUCUCUACCAUGUCAUUGAAGAUAUUGAGCAUACACCUUUGAAAUGUGGUCGGUGCAUUACAAAGACCAAAAGGCAUGCACUUAUAAGCAUAGGUGUCAAAUGGGCAGGUGAAUGUGGUUUUCUCCUGAUCCUCCAAUGCAAUGGAAAUUUGAAAGUAGCCCGAAUAGCCAUCCAAGAAGCAAUAAUAGUCAUGACCAACUACCUUCUCCAAAACUUGAUCUAAGAAAGGUAAUGGGAAAUGAUAUUUCUUGGUGGCUGCAUUCAACUUUUUAAAAUCAAUGCAUACUUGCCAACCUGUAGUCAACCUUGUAGGAAUGAGCUCUCCUUCAUCAUUCUUCACCACAGUUAUCCCGCUUUUCUUAGGUACUACUUGAGUAGGGCUCACUAGACUACUGUCAGAGAUAGGAUAUAUAAUACCUGCAUCUAAAAGCUUCAAUACCUCAUUUCUGACUACAUCUUGCAUAAGGGGAUUUAGCCUUCUUUGUGGUUACCCUAUUGGUUUUGCGUUCUCUUCCAAAUAAAUAUGAUACGUGCAAAUCAAGGGAUUUGUCCCUUUCAAAUCUAAAAUAGACCAACCAAUCACUCUUUCAUUCUCUUUAAGCACUUUUAAAAAUUUGAUUUCUUGCUCUUCAGUUAAUGUAGUUGAAAUGACCAAAGGUUUUUCUUCAUUUUCCUCUAAAUAAACAUACUUUAAACCAUGUGGUAGGGGCUUUAACUCUGCUUUGCUGAUCUCAACCUCCAUUUUUUUUUUCUUCAUCAUUUUCAACAUUGUUCAAAGACUGAAUGGUAAAUUUUUCUUUCCACUUUGUAGCAACUUCAACACUCUUUCCUUAAUGAUUGUAGAGAAAAAUUCAUCUAUAUUUUCUUCCAUUUAAUUUCUUAUGUUUUCUUGCACCAAGACCUCUAUAAGGCAUGCUUCCUCAUCCUCCACAUCAUCAUGGUCCAUCAGUUGCUUGCAUAAAUUGAAGAAAUUCAUUUCCACUGUCAUGUUCGCAAAAAAUAACUGCAUCAAUCCAUUCUGAUAGUUAAUGAGAGCAUUGGUUGUAGCAAGGAAGGGUCUCCCAAGAAUAAUUGGAACAAAAUUCACGCAUUUUUUCAACGAUUCUAUAUCUAGCACCGCAAAGUCCAUUGGGCAGUAGAACUUUUCAACUUGCACUAAGACAUCUUCAACUACUCUUUUAGGUACUUUAAUUGAACGGUCUGCUAAAGAGAGUGUAAUGGUAGUAGCCUUAAGCUCUCCCAAUCCCAAUUUCUUAUAGAUUGAAUAUGGAAUCAAAUUUAUACUAGCUCCCAAAUCUAACAAAGCCCUUUCCACAAAUGAGUCUCCAAUCUGGAUUAAGAUGGUAGAACAACCUGGAUCUUUGUACUUCACCAUUGUCUUAUUCUCGAUGAUGUCAUUGACUUGCUCGGUGAGGAAUGCUUUCUUGCUUAAUUUAAUCAUUUUCUUCAUAGUGCAUAAGUCCUUAAGGAACUUUGCAUAAGCAAGCACUUGCUUGAUCAUAUCAAGGAGUGGAAUGAUGAACUUCACUUGCUUCAAAACUUUCAAAACCUCAAAAGUCUUAUCCCCCACUUUAUGUCUUUGCAUUGAUGAAGGGAAAGACAGAUGAUUGAAAAUACUCUUUUUAUCUUUGCUCACAAUGACUUUCUUAUAUUUUUCAUACUCUUUCUCAUUUCUAGCAUUUUUCUCCACGAUUGGUUCAUUUCUAAUAAGAAUAUCUUCACUUAUUGCUAACUUGGGCCUUUCAUAUUCUUUCCCAUUUCUGAGUGUGAUAACUGCAUUGCAAUCUUCCUUUUGCACUUCGGAAACUUCAUUUACUCAUCUCGAAUUUUUCUAUGGUUGAGUUGUGAACUUUCUUUUCUCUUGAGAUAAGCUUCUAGCAAGUUGGUUCAAAGUGGUUCGAAUAUUUGCUAGUUCUUAAGAUGUUUGAGCAUUUAUCCUAUUUUGAUCCUCAUUACGCUUGUUUUGCUUCUAUAUAAACUCUCUUAGCAUAUCUUCCAGGCUUGAGUUAAAUGAUGAGAUUUGAGGUUACUGUUGAAAAUUUUGAGAUGGCAUACCUUGUGGUUGAAAACCUUGCUACCCAUUAGUCUGAUUACCUUGAAAUCAGUUUCCUUGCUAUUGAAGUUGGCCAUUGUUACCUCAUCUCCAUGAUAGAUUUGGAUGAUUCCUCCAACCCGGAUUAUAAGUGUUAGAAUAUGGAGAAUUGCUAGAAUAUUGCUUGUAUGUCCUUAAGGCAUUGGCUUGCUCUGAAAACAUGUUUUGCACUGCAAGUAGAGUAGGACAAGAUUACACACCAUGUUCCAUAGACUUACAUAUCUAGAAUGGUUGAGUUAUUCCCUCAUUAACUAUUUGUACCUCUUGACCUCCCUUAGCUUCCAAAUCAUCCAACCUUCUCAUAAUGGUUACAAACUUUGCUUGGACAUCUAAACUCUCUGUAAGGUAUACACUCCACUAGCUCUUGCCCUAUUCAUUGUUCUAUCUCUAGGUGUUUCCUUGAUGAUUGGUUCUUCCCAACUUCUAGAUACCUCAGCAACAUAAUCAAGGAAUUGAAAUGCUUCAUCGAGGUUUUUAUUCAUGAAAUCUCAUCCACACAUAGUCUCGAGAAGUUGUUUUUCCUUCAUAGAAAUAUGAUACUAGCAUCCAAUUGUCAAAUCUGUGAUGGGGGCAUGUUGCAACCAUCUCCCUAAAUUUUUCCCAGGAUGCAAAAAAUUUCUCAUCUUUUAUAGCCUUGAAAUUCGAGAUCUCCUUUUUCAAUGCACUAGUCCUAUGUGUUGGAAAGAACUUUUUAAAAACACUAAUUGUCAAUCACCCCAAUUUUUUAUACUACAGGGUCUAAGACUAUUUAACCAAGUCUUAGCUUUAUCCUUCAAUGACAAGGGGAAUAGCUUCAUGCGGAAGGUCUUUAAAGAAGUGUUGGCUUCUCGAAAAAUUGAAGCGAUGUCCUCAAAUUCCUUGAUGUGAGAGUGUGGCUUUUCAUUUUUUGUCUCCCUAACAAUGGGUAGUUGAGAUACCACUUGAGGCCGAAUGGUAACAUGAUCGUGAUUUGGAGGUAGCAUAAAACACGAUGGUGUGCUCAACCUAGGAGGAUUUAGAAACUCUCUCAUGGUUUUUUGGUCCUGCAUAGGUGGUCAUGGCCUGUUGUUACUACUGUUGGAUUCUUCAGUGUCCUCCAUAUUUGGUUGAGAUUCCUUAGUUGUUCUUUGAAGUCUACUUGAAAGAUCUCUUUCCCAACCAAGCAUAAAAUAGAAGAAAAAUAUAUAUAGAGAAAAAAAAAAGAACUAAAACAAAGUGAUGCACUAUAUCCUAGUUAUGACGAUUGCUAAUCCCCACCAACGACGACAGUUUCUUGACUAAAAUUCUUUAUUGUACUAAAAUACUUAGCAUUUUUUACGUAGCAACUCCAGUUAAGAAAAACUAGAGAAAUAGUCACUACGACUUUUGUAGUACUUCGGGCAUCGUCCUCAAGGACUGGCAUAUGGAAAGAGUCAAUACUAGAAUAAAUGAAUUGCUUUCGUUUAAAUCCUAAAGUGAAAAAUAAUAUGAGAAUAAUGUGAAACUAAGUAAAAGAAAUUAAAUUAAUAAAAAAAUGGAUAUUGAUAUUAAAUUCGAUUGAUUCACGUUUAGGGCUUUCCACAAUCCAACCUAGGUUAUAGAAAUUAGAGAAAACAAGGGUCUUUAAAGUAAUAUGAUCUUAGGGUUUUGGGAUCCUUGGCCGUUCACAAUCAAAUUGAGUUUUAUAACUUGAAAUUGCAUUUGAAACCUAUUUUUUCCUUUUUUAAAACAAAUUCCUAAAGCCAUUAAAUGAAUGAGAUUGAUUACCAGUUUAAGAUUUGGCUUUUUAACCCUUCCUACUCCUUAUAGCUUUGUUUUGGGGCAAAUAAUGAUAGGGAAUAUGAGGAUAACUAAUGAUAAAAAAAUUACCAAGAAUCAUUAGUAUCGGGUAAUAACCUACCAUAUCAUUCCCUAAACUAACUCACAAGGAUAGGACAAAAAAAAUGAUAAAUUGUCACCCAACCAAUAAUUAAUCUAAUUGUUAUAAUAAUUUAUCCAUUGUCCUUUUAGGUUUCCUAGCCCUUAGGUUUUCAUGCUUUAAGCCCCAAGUUGGCUCUUAACCUCUCAUGGGGGUGAUGUCACAUUCACAAUCCAUAAUAUGGUAAAAAUCCAUAAUUUGAAUCAAAAGAACCUAAAACAACAUAUUUAAUAAAGAAGAGAAAGAAAACAAACCAAAGUUCUCAUCUUCUUCUACCUUCAAUGUCAAACUCUUCGAAAAAAAAAAUCCAAGAUCCCUAAAACCUAGAACUAAGAAAGUUUAUAUAAUAUCAUCAAUUACCUAACAUGUGCCACACUCUCAUUGGCCCCUUAUUACAAAAAUAAUUACCUAAAAAUGAUUUAAAAAAAUAAUAAAAUUGUGAUUUCUAGUCAUAUGAGGUCCAUUUAGGGCGGAUGGAAUGCCCUAGAUGCAAUUACUGAGGUAAAGGAGGUGAAACAUUAAAGUGGCAAUAGGUGAAUUUGAAAUUGGUGUCAUUUUGAUGUGGAUUUCGAAUUCAUAAGUUGAAUUUCGAAAUCAUUUCGAAAUGACCCUUAAACUUUGUGCAGUUGUUUUCAAAUGGCCAUAACUUCUUCAUUUCAGCUCUGAUUUUCACACUAUUUGAAGCAUUGGACUCAUAACAUCCCAAGAAACGAUAUAUUGUAUAUAUAAAAUGGAGUCCGAGAAGUGCUCCAAAUUUUUCCUCAAAGUUAAAGUAUAUAUUACCAUCAAAUUUUUGAGUUCUAAAUUUCCAUGUAGCUGAAUCUUGCUUCAUGCCUCAUUUCCUAUGUUUUCUUGCCUUCUUUCUUACUCCAUAAUGGUCAUUUCUCAUCUUCCAAACUCAUAAUAUCCUUGUCUUGCCUUUCCUCGUGGUCCAUGAGUUCUGACUCACUUAUUUUCUCAUUUAACCCUUUCUUGAUCUUUCAAAAUUUAAAGUGAUUCAACUUGUACCCUUUUCUUCCCUUGAACCUAAGAUAAGUCUCCAAAGUACAAAUUAAACUCAUGGCUAGGGCCUUAGCAUUGAUUUAGGUCAAGUUGGGUGAUUUGAAUGUUCUUUGGUGAAUAAAUCAUAUUGAAUAUGUACCAUUAGAGCACAUAUUUUGGCUCCAAUCAAGCUUACCCGCCAAACAUUGAGUGAUAAAAUGGAGUGGGUUGUCUAAAGAUUCAUUUGAGGCUCUAUAGUAUAGUCAUGAGAGCACACAAAUUAGAUAAUAUGUAGUUGGUUGCUCUCUUCCCCAUGUCACUUAGUUGAGCAGCAUAGAGGUGGUUGGCAUUAAUUAAGCCUUUGAGACUCUAUACUUAGGAGGAUGUGGCCUAUGAGUUUCUGACACAGUUUGCCUUUAGUGUCGAUAUUGAUUUUUUUUUUUUUACUAAACAAGAUGUCGAGAGUGUUACUUAACCAUCCCUAUGGCAAAAGCAAAAAUUGUUGCCUUUAGUGCUAAUAUUAAUGUUUCUAAGCGAGAGUUAGAGGCUACUAAGUAGAGGCCAAAUGAGUUUGUUUCUUCAUUUAUUAGUCAUUAGAGGGCUAAGGUGGUUGGUAUGAUAGAUUGACUUAAGGAGUAAGAUCAUAUUGACGUGCUUCUUUGGAACCUUCAACCGAGGUUUGCCAGACAUCUUAUAGGUAUUCCAUUUCAAGACUUCUGAAGUUUGGUUCAAGUCGUUUUCAGUGUUUAGGAGGGUAUUUCUAAAGGGUUAUAGACAAACACUAUUCCUUCCUUAGACAAUAAAGAAAAGAAGCCUAUAGGAUCAUUAGGGAGGCUUGGAGAGGUUAGCACUAUCAGUUAUCAUCAUCGAGGUCAACUUAUCAGUCAUACCAAAGGUCUCCUAUAAUCAAAGCCUACUUUCCUCAUCUAUUGUGUCAAUAUUAGUCCACUUAUAUUCAACAACCUUUCAUUGCUUGGACUAGUAUGCAACCAUGACUGUCGUAUCCCAGAGCCACUGGUUCUCAUUCAUUACUCAUAUUCCCACUCAUAUUUUUUAAAACAUGUGAUCUUUAUCAUAAAGGGGCAUAUUUGUAGACCCUUCAUUCUAUCUCCUUAAUACAUAAGUGUUCUUUCAAUACUCCCCAAUGGUUCCCUAAUGGCUCUUUACUGCUCAUAUAGCCAACAUUUUUUAGUCACCUUGGAGACUUUGGUUGAGGAAUUUAUUUGACCCCUCGUUAUGACCCUUAGCAGAAUCGAGUUAGAUUUAGGUUUUUCUUUUUUCUUUUUAGGAUAGCUCCUUUAAGUACAUCUCUAGGAUAGAAUACUUAGGCAUCAUUUUUCAAUCACCUUGGCCCAUUUAGGCACAUUUGACCCAUUUAGGAUCACCCUAACCCAUUUAGAUCCAUUUGGCCUAUUUAGUUCACCUUGACUGAUUUAGACACAUUUGACCCAUUUAGGUACAUCCAACUCAUUUAGGUCACCCUGGCUCAUUUAGACACAUAUAGGCCCAUUUAGGCACAUCCGACCCAUUUAGGAUCACCCUGGCCUAUUUAGACACAUCCAACCUAUUUAGGAUGCCCUUGUCCCAUUUAGACACAUUUGGCCCAUUUAGGAUUACCUAGGCCCAUUUAGGCACAUUCGACCCAUUUAAGUCAUCUUAGCCCAUUUAGACCACUUAGGCCCGUUUAGGCACAUUAGGCACAUAGGACCUAUUUAGGAUCACCCUAACCUACUUAGUCACACCUUGACCCAUUUAGGUCACUUAGCCCAUGAUUACUACUCAAAAAGUGCUAUUUGAUAGCCUAUAAUAAAUCCUUUUAAACACUUUUGAGUAGUAGUUUAGGCCUUUUAACUCAAUUGGCAUGUUAAGGACCCUUGAAAGGGAUUUUAAUCACUUUGUGUAAGUUUUGGUGUUUUUGUUAGUAAUUUAAUCACCAAAGCAAGUCAAGACUAAGGAGAGCUAUGAGGAAUCUUGGGCAAAGCUUAGAAGUCAUUUUCCAAGAGUAAAUCCGGAUUGCAAGGAGAAAAAGUAAAGAGAAUCUGCCAUGAAGCCUAUUCUUGAUGACAGUCGUAGCAGCCACUUUUGGAGCAUUUUAUGAAGCUCAAAUGAUGCAUGCUAUAUACCAUUUCAAAGCUCAGGAAGUCAACAAUCCAAUUCUUCAAACGGUGUGCAAUUUCGAGUUGAAACGAAGAAGUUGCAGCCGUUACAAGCCAAUCACUCCGAGCUGAAGGAAGCAUUUUGCAAAGUGCUGCGAAAUCACCCAUUUGUUGCAAAGUGAUUUCGCAGCCUUUUUGAACAGUGUGAUGUUUCUCCUUCUGACGAUGCCCGACAUAUACCGUGAGAGGGAAGCUAGGAACCUCAAGGUGGGAGCCAACUUCGCAGCCCUGCGAGUUUAACUUGUUGAUGCGAAAAUAUUUCGCAGCCCUCUUGAGUGUCUGCGAAAUCUCGCAGACACCAUUUUUCUCUUGCGAAAUGGUUCCUGAAGCCUCCUGAUAUUUGCUACCGACAUUGGGAGAUAUUUUCCAUUAGAUUUUUGUUGUCUAAAUCCCAAAGUACUCCUUGUAAACCACCAAUUACAUGAUUCCUUAGCUUUUAAGUUAGUAAAAAGACUAAAUAUCUAUGUAAUAAUUAGUUUUAUAUUAUGUUCAUAUAUAUACCUCUCGGGAGCCUGUUCUCAGGGAGGAGUUCCUUCUAUAAAAGUUUGGGUAAGCAAGUAAAGUUUAUUUCUUUCUAUUGCUUUACCUUCUCACUUUGUAUUUUCAUUUUCUUACUAAGUUAUGAAUUCUCUGAGGAGUUUUUCCCAGAGAAUGAGUAACUAAACCUCUAAUUCCUUGGAGCUAAGGUUGCCAGGGAAGGUUCCAAGUGCAAGAAUGCAAGGCUUUGUGGUUUUAGCUAUUAAUGAAGAGGAAGUGAAAUCCUUUAAUGAUUUCUAUGUUUUUAGUUAACUUAAAACACCUUAGAGUCACCUGGGCCAACACUUGGUAAGGCAUGUGAUUUCCAACCAAGGAAAUGCACUAGUUUACCCCUUACGAGCCUCUGGGAGGUGACUUUAGGGUAGGAUUUUCUAGAAUAGCCAACACUUGGUAAGCUUUUGGACUCCUAAGAGACAUCCAUUAGUUAUCUCUUGCGAGCUUUUGACGGGUAAUCCAAGGUUAAAGAUCACCUUGAAUGGUUGAGGCUUAGUGAGAGGCUUAAACCAUUGCAAGUUGCAUCAGUGAGAGAAUUAAAGUGAAAUCUAAUUGAAGGAGUCUCUGUACAACACCGGUUAGAGAAUUGACUAUAUGUUGAAUCUCUAACGCGAGGAAAUGAACCAUCUGACCAGAGCCGUGUCUUUUGCAUGAGGAACCACCCCAGUGAACCUAACUCUCCAGGGAAUGCUUUUCUUCCUAAAUUAUUCCAAACUUCUGUUGUGUUAGUUAGUUUAAGUCUAAACCUUUACCAAUCAAAGCUUGUGUUUUACUUGUUAAGCUAACCAUGAAAUGAAACAAAACCAAUUCACUUGGAAUUGGUAUCAUUGAUAGCUUGCUAAUCCUUCCCAGUGAACGAUCCUAGAGCCGCUAUACUAUAGUAGCUUUUUCUUUGCUACCCUAUUAUAUGGUGUUAUAGGUUAUAAAUUUUGUUGAUUACUCCCUCAAUCAAGGAGCACCAGCUGGACACGAAUCAGCUGAGACACCAAUUAGGCACGAAUCAAAUGGCGCCGUUGCCGGGGAUCGAACCCCGAAUCAGAUGGUGCCAUUGCCACUUCCGCUGCUAGGGACGAAUCAAAUGGUGCCGUUGCCGGGGAAUGAGUGUCAAGUUUAUAUUGAUACCAUUUUUGAGCACUUGUGAUUUUCAUCACAAGUUGGUAAAGUUUCUUUCACUUUACUAAUUCUCAUUCUUUCUUUAUUUAUUCAUAAUCUAAGUUUAUCUUUUAAAAUUUAGCCUAGUUUAAUUUUGUUGUUGUAGCCCUGUUUUUCUUGUUGUCCUCUGUUUUCAUUUUUUGUUGCAGAUUGAUACUAGUUGUGUAUGCCAAAGUGGAUACGAGACAUUGGAGGCAGGCUUGUUAAGUGUGAUACACCUCAGAGAAGAGAAUUCGAAGUGAUCUUGAAUAUCAUGGAAGCUACACCUGAAGAUCAACAUAGUCACCAAGGUCGUCAAGAUAAUCUUAAUGAAUUCAGAUCAAUGAGGGAUCGUAUGCAUCCACCUCGUAUGAGUGCACCAUCAUGUAUAGUGCCCCCUACAGAGCAGCUAGUGAUCAGACCGUAUCUUGUUCCACUUCUACCAACUUUCCAUGGAAUGGAAAGUGAGAAUCCGUAUGCACACAUCAAGGAAUUUGAAGAUGUUUGUAAUACAUUCCAAGAGGGAGGAGCUUUAAUUGAUUUGAUGAGGCUUAAGUUAUUUCCUUUUACUUUAAAGGAUAAGGCCAAAAUUUGGCUUAAUUCUUUAAGGCCAAGGAGUAUCCGCUCUUGGAUUGAUUUACAAGCUGAAUUCCUUAAGAAAUUUUUUCCCACUCAUAGAACAAAUGACUUGAAAAGGCAAAUUUCAAACUUCUCAGCUAAAGAGAAUGAGAAAUUCUAUGAGUGUUGGGAAAGAUACAUGGAAGCUAUAAAUGCUUGUCCUCACCAUGGCUUUGAUACUUGGCUAUUGGUGAGCUAUUUUUAUGAUGGUAUGUCCUCCUCAAUGAAGCAACUCCUCGAGACAAUGUGUGGAGGAGAUUUCAUGAGCAAAAAUCCAGAGGAAGCUAUGGAUUUCUUGAGCUAUGUAGCUGAUGUUUCAAGGGGAUGGGAUGAACCAACCAAAGGAGAAGUGGGAAAGAUGAAGUCUCAGUUGAAUGCUUACAAUGCAAAGGCUGGGAUGUAUACCUUGAAAGAAGAUGAUGAUGUGAAAGCAAAGUUGGCAGCUAUGACAAGAAGAUUGGAGGAGCUGGAGCUGAAAAGAAUACAUGAAGUGCAAGCUGUUGCUGAAGCACCAGUGCAAGUGAAGUUGUGUCCCAAUUGUCAAUCAUAUGAACAUUUGGUGGAGGAAUGCCCUGCAAUUUCAGCUGAAAGGGAAAUGUAUAGAGAUCAAGCAAAUGUUGUUAGACAAUUCAGGCCUAAUAACAAUGCGCCUUAUGGAAAUACCUACAACUCAAGUUGGAGGAAUCAUCCAAAUUUCUCAUGGAAGGCCAGAGCAACUCAGUACCAACAGCCGGAUCCACCAUCUCAACAAUCUUCAAGUAUUGAACAAGCAAUAGCCAAUCUCACUAAGGUAGUGGGAGAUUUUAUUGGAAAGCAAGAAGCCACCAAUGCUCGAGUCGAUCAAAGAAUUGAUAGAGUGGAGAGUAUGUUGAAUAAAAGGAUGGAUGGAAUGCAAAAUGAUAUGAACCAAAAGUUUGAUAACAUCCAGUAUUCAAUUUCAAGGCUCACAAAUUUGAAUACACUGCAAGAAAAGGGAAGAUUUCCUUCUCAACCUCACCAAAACCCCAAAGGUGUCCAUGAAGUGGAAAGCCAAGAGGGAGAAUCAUCACAAAUGAAAGAAGUUAAAGCCUUGAUCACUCUAAGGAGUGGUAAAAAAAUUGAGCAGCCAACACCCAAGCCACAUGUUGAGAAAGAAGAAGAGAUAAAGAAAGGGAAGGAAAUGGAAGAUAAAGAGAGUGAGAUCAAUGAAGAAAAGAAGGACUCUGAUUCAACAAGGAAAGUAAUUCCAGAGAAGGAGCUUCUGAAGGAAGAAAUGCUGAAGAAAUCAACUUCUCCACCUUUUCCUCAAGCAUUACAUGGGAAAAAGGGGAUUAGAAAUGCAGCUGAAAUCCUUGAAGUAUUGAGACAAGUGAAAGUCAAUAUUCCACUGCUGGAUAUGAUUAAACAAGUUCCAACGUAUGCAAAAUUCCUAAAGGACUUGUGUACUAUCAAGAAAGGGUUAACUGUAAACAAGAAAGCCUUCUUGACUGAGCAAGUAAGUGCAAUCUUACAGUGUAAGUCUCCUUUGAAGUACAAAGACCCUGGAAGUCCUACCAUUUCAGUCAUGAUUGGAGGAAAGGUAGUGGAAAAAGCCUUGCUAGAUUUGGGAGCAAGUGUGAAUUUGCUUCCAUAUUCCGUCUACAAGCAAUUGGGACUUGGAGAGUUGAAGCCAACAACAAUCACUCUAUCUCUGGCAGAUAGAUCAGUGAAAAUUCCAAGAGGGGUAAUUGAGGAUGUAUUGGUUCAAGUAGAUAAUUUCUACUAUCCAGUAGAUUUUAUUGUUCUUGAUACAGAUCCUACUAUAAAGGAAGCUAAUUUAGUUCCUAUCAUCCUUGGAAGGCCAUUUCUUGCAACUUCAAAUGCAAUCAUCAACUGCAGGAAUGGGCUUAUGCAACUCGCUUUUGGUAACAUGACACUGGAUCUCAAUAUUUUCUAUAUGUCUAAAAAGCAAAUCACUCCGAAAGAAGAAGAAGGACCAGAAGAGUUAUGUAUUAUUGACACUCUGGUGGAGGAGCACUGUAAUCAAAAUAUGCAAGACAAGUUGAAUAAAAGUCUUGUGAAUUUUGAGGAAGGUUUGUCUGAAUCUCCUAUUGGGCUUGCUACUCUACAAAGUUGGAGAAAGAUAGAAGAAAUUCUACCUUUGUUCAAUAAAGAAGAGGAGGCAGCUGUUGAAAAAGAAAUUCCAAAACUCAAUCUGAAGCCUUUACCUGAGGAGCUGAAAUAUAUAUAUCUUGAGGAAAAUAAUCAAUGUCCUGUUGUGAUAUCUUCAUCUCUGACCAGUCAUCAAGAGAAAUGUUUAAUGGAAGUUCUCAAGAAGUGUAAGAAGGCAAUAGGAUGGCAAAUAUCUGACUUGAAAGGCAUUAGUCCUUUAGUUUGUACUCAUCAUAUAUAUAUGGAGGAGGAAGCAAAGCCAAUUCGUCAAUUUCAAAGAAGGUUGAAUCCUCAUCUACAAGAGGUGGUGCGAGCUGAGGUGCUGAAGCUACUUCAAGCAGGAAUCAUUUACCCUAUAUCUGAUAGCCCUUGGGUGAGUCCUACUCAAGUGGUACCAAAGAAGUCAGGGAUCACAGUGGUUCAAAAUGAAAAAGGGGAAGAAGUUACUACACGCCUCACUUCAGGUUGGAGGGUGUGUAUUGAUUAUAGAAAGCUGAAUGUUGUAACCAGGAAAGAUCAUUUUCCAUUGCCAUUUAUUGAUCAAGUGCUGGAGAGAGUCUCUGGACAUCCAUUUUAUUUUUUUUUUGGAUGGGUAUUCAGGGUAUUUUCAUAUUGAAAUUGAUUUGGCAGAUCAGGAAAAGACCACUUUUACAUGUCCAUUUGGAACAUAUGCUUAUAGGAGAAUGCCUUUUGGUUUAUGCAAUGCACCUGCUACAUUUCAAAGAUGUAUGUUGAGUAUUUUCAGUGAUAUGGUGGAGCGAAUUAUGGAGGUUUUCAUGGAUGACAUCACCGUAUAUGGAGGUACAUUUGAGGAAUGCUUGGUUAAUUUGGUAGCAGUUCUUCACAGAUGCAUUGAAAAAGAUCUGGUGCUCAACUGGGAGAAAUGCCAUUUUAUGGUACAUCAAGGAAUUGUCCUUGGCCAUAUCAUCUCUGAAAAAGGCAUUGAAGUUGAUAAAGCAAAGGUGGAGCUUAUUGUCAAAUUACCAUCCCCAACAACUGUAAAAGGAGUAAGGCAGUUCCUUGGCCAUGCAGGGUUCUAUAGGAGGUUUAUAAAAAGUUUUUCAAGUCUUUCAAAACCUCUUUGUGAGCUGUUAGCUAAGGAUGCUAAGUUUAUAUGGGAUGAAAGGUGUCAAAAUAGCUUUGAUCAACUGAAGAAAUUUUUAACAACAACUCCAAUACUAAGAGCCCCUAACUGGCAAUUACCUUUUGAACUGAUGUGUGAUGCCAGUGACUUUGCUAUAGGAGCUGUGCUUGGCCAAAGAGAAUAUGGGAAGCCCUAUGUGAUUUACUAUGCAAGUAAAACACUGAAUGAAGCUCAAAGGAACUACACAACUACAGAGAAAGAAUUGUUAGCUGUGGUAUUUGCUUUGGACAAAUUUCGUGCUUAUUUAGUGGGGUCUUUCAUCAUUGUCUUUACUGACCAUUCAGCCUUGAAGUAUUUAUUGACAAAUCAAGAUGCAAAAGCAAGGUUGAUUAGAUGGAUUCUUUUGUUACAAGAAUUCGAUCUUCAAAUCAAAGAUAAGAAAGGAGUGGAGAAUGUGGUAGCUGACCACCUUUCAAGGUUAGUUAUAGCACAUAAUUCCCAUCCCUUGCCUUUUAAUGAUGAUUUUCCUGAAGAAUCACUCAUGUUCCUAGUGAAAACUCCUUGGUAUGCUCAUAUUGCUAAUUAUUUAGUAACUGGUGAAAUUCCAAGUGAGUGGAAUGCACAGGACAGGAAGCACUUCUUUGCCAAAAUUCAUUCUUAUUAUUGGGAAGAGCCCUUUCUCUUUAAGUAUUGUGCAGAUCAGAUUAUUAGGAAAUGUGUCCCUGAAGAUGAGCAGCAAGGGAUUCUAUCUCAUUGUCAUGAGAAUGCAUGUGGAGGCCACUUUGCCUCUCAGAAAACAACCAUGAAGGUAUUGCAAUCAGGGUUUACUUGGCCAUCUCUUUUUAAAGAUGCCCACAACAUGUGUAGGAAUUGUGAUAGAUGCCAAAGACUUGGAAAGCUAACAAAAAGAAUCAAAUGCCUAUGAGCCCCAUUCUAAUAGUUGAGCUAUUUCAUGUAUGGGGCAUUGACUUUAUGGGACCUUUCUCAAUGUCUUUUGGUAAUUCUUACAUCUUGGUGGGGGUAGAUUAUGUUUCUAAAUGGGUUGAGGCAAUCCCCUGUAAACAAAAUGAUCACAGGGUGGUUCUCAAGUUUCUUAAAGAGAACAUUUUCUCAAGAUUUGGGGUGCCCAAAGCCAUAAUCAGUGAUGGAGGUGCUCAUUUUUGCAACAAACCUUUUAAAGCUCUGUUAUCCAAGUAUGGAGUGAAGCAUAAGGUGGCUACACCUUAUCAUCCUCAGACUUCCGGGCAAGUUGAGCUAGCUAACAGGGAAAUAAAGAACAUCUUGAUGAAAGUGGUGAAUUCCAAUAGAAAGGAUUGGUCUAUUAGGCUUCAUGAUUCAUUGUGGGCAUAUAGAACAGCUUAUAAGACUAUUCUUGGGAUGUCUCCCUAUCGUCUUGUCUAUGGUAAAGCAUGCCAUCUCCCUGUGGAAGUUGAAUACAAAGCUUGGUGGGCAAUAAAGAAGUUGAAUAUGGACUUGAUCAAGGCAGGAGAAAAGAGAUAUCUAGACCUUAAUGAGAUGGAGGAAUUAAGAAAUAAUGCUUAUAUCAAUUCCAAAGUUGCAAAACAGAGGAUGAAGAAGUGGCAUGACCAACUCAUCUCCAACAAGGAAUUUCAGGAAGGGCAAAGAGUUUUACUGUAUGACACAAGACUCCAUAUCUUUCUUGGGAAGCUCAAGUCAAGGUGGAUAGGGCCGUUCAUUAUUCACCGAGUAUGUUCCAAUGGAGUGGUGGAAUUAUUGAAUUCCAAUGGCAAGGACAGCUUUAGAGUCAAUGGAUAUCGUCUCAAGCCAUUCAUGGAGCCAUUCAAACCAGAAAAGGAGGAGAUCAACCUCCUUGAACCUCAAAAAGCAUAAGCGAAAAAGGGUUUGCUGGACGUGGUUUACCACAGUCCAAAUUUUUUUGUAAAUUUUGUAAAUUUUCAAGUUGUUUCCAUACUUUUGAUCUUAGUUUUUGAUCUUAAAUCAUGUUUUUAUGUGUAUUUUAAUCUUUUUGAAUGAUCCCAGGUGGAAGAAAUUUCAAGGAGAUUGAAAGAAAAAAAAUCGGGAAGAAAUCGGAGCAAAAAUAGAGUAAAAACAGAGGAAAAACAGAGCUCUGCGAAAUUUCGCAGAGUGAAGGAAACUUCUGCGAAAUGAGCACUAUGCUGCAAAACCAUUCCGCAACACUGUAGAAGUCUCUGCGAGGGUAUUUCGCAACUGCGAAGGCGUUCUUGGCACACGAGUGCCACUUCGCAGCACAGGAACUCUCAUUUCGCAGCUACGAAACGCACUGCAAAGUUACUGCGAAAAUGGCAUUUUGCUACGAAAUUUGCGUUUUGUUGCAAAACUUAAACUGACCCUUAGGCUUCCGUUUUUCCUAUUUAUACCGGUCAUUUGAGCUGCGAAAAGGGUUUCAAAAAUCAGAGCGCCAUUCUCGCAAGCUGUUCGUCUUCUUCAGUGAGCCACGCCGACCAAGCCUCCGGUCAUCUUCUCCGAUCAGCAAUGUCGGCCAAAGUUCGGUAUCCCGAAAUGGCGCGAACACAAGGGGCUAAGUCUUCGUCUCCUUCGAAUCGCAAGAGGAGUCUGCGAAAGGAGCCAGUUUCAGAUCCUGCUCCUCAACCUUUGCAGCCGAAAACAAUCCCUCCUCCAAUGAAGCCAGCGCUGCCAAAGCCUCCGGUGAAGCCCGCACCGCCAAAACCUCUGGCAAAACGAUACCUUACCAGGUCAGGGGGUCGGCCACUGUAGAAGAAGCCCAGGGUUGAGAGCUCAGAACCCAUCGAUUUGACUGAGCAAUCUCCAGAGCCUUCACCAAUUCCAACUCCAGUGCCGUCUCCAGUUCCCUCGCCGAUUCCAAUGCCAGUUCUGUCUCCGGUGUCAUCUCCGGCGCCGAAAGAAAAAUCUCAGGAGCCUCAAGCGCCAAUUCCUGAGCCCCAAAUUCCAUCCGAAACAGCUCUGGAAGAAGUAAUUAGGCGGCCAAUGCUUCAUCAGCCACCAAUUGAGGGAAACUUGGAUUGUAGAACUCGGCCAUUCCAUUCCGAGCUAUGCUUCGACUUACCGGCAUUCAGAGUGAGGCCAGAGCUUGCCCAAUCAUUCCAGCUAUUGAGGAGGUAUCACAUGGAGCACUUGCUGACUCCAAGAGAUUUUUUCUAUCCCCGGAUAGCCACGGAUUUCUAUCAAUCCAUGACAACCAAAGAGGUUAGGAAUCCAACCUUGAUUCAUUUCACUAUCGAUGGGAGACAUGGCAUAUUGGGAGCAUGACAUAUUGCUGAAGCCCUGCAAAUUCCCUUUGAGCCAACCCAAUUCGAUAAUUUUAGAGCUUGGGCAAAUCCUACUGAGCUGGAGAUGGUGCGCACCCUUUCCAGAGGAGCUGCAAAUCGAUCACAUCUGCUGAGGGGGGAGCUUCCUCCAGUUAUGUUUUUGAUUGAUGCAUUUUUACGUCAUAAUAUCUAUCCAUUGCAGCAUUGGACCCAAAGAAGGGGAGUCCUCCUAGAAGCUCUUUACAAGAUGUCAGAAGGAUUUUUCUUUGGGCCUCAUCAUCUGAUCCUAGCAGCCCUUCUCUAUUUCGAAGAGAAGGUUCACAGAAAGAAGCUUCAGAGAGCUGAUUGCAUUCCCCUCCUCUUUCCAAGGCUGCUAUGCCAAAUUUUGGAGCAUCUGGGAUGCCCUUCUAAGCCUCAGCUGGAGAGAAAGCGAAUUUUCCGUGAACCAUUCACUCUUGAUAAAUGGAACAAUAUGACGGCCUACAAAGUUGAUCAGCCUGAGCAGCCUCAGCCAGCUGCAAGAAGAGCAUCCCCAAGACAUAUACCUGAAGGUAUAACAGUUGCUGCUCCUGCCAUUCCUAGAGCUCCACCAGCUGCACCAGCUUCAUCUCAGCCAUCCACAUCAGCUGAGCCGAGGAUGGCCAUUCCUAUAUCUGAAUAUAGAGAGUUGUGUCGUGCAUUGGAGACUCUCACAGCUUCUCAUAGCAGUCUUGCUCAGGAGAUGGCAACCAUUAGAGCAUGCCAAGAGCAAAUGUUGGCCACUCAGGCUCAACAAGCUGCCAUCUUAAGGCAGCUCCAGCUUCAUUUCAAUCUGCCACAAGCUGUAGAGCCCUCCACUGAUACACCACCAGAGCCACACUCUCAUCCUUCAGAGUCUCAUCCUCCAGAGCCCCAAGCCCCAGUUGAUGCACCUACUGAAGAGGCAGAUCCUUCUGCCUAGUCCCAGCACCACCCCACUCAUCAGACUAUAUUAUAUAUCUAAUAUUUUUAUGUAUUUCGUUUUUUUAGUUGAAAAGAAGUCCCAGUAUUUUGGUACUAUAUUUGGGAUUCCUUGUGUUACUUAUCUUUUGCAUUGUAAUCAAAUGAAUUUAAAGUAAUACAAGUUGAAUAUUUCUUGUUAACAGUUAGCAUUAAGUUGUCUUUAUUUCCUUUUCUCACAUAUUCUAUUCUUUUUUAAACAUGUGGUUUUCCCCAAUCAAUAUUCGAAUUUGAUAUCAACAAGGAGGUACCACUUCCUCCCUUUAAUUACAGUCACUCAUAUCACAUUGAGGACAAUGCUUAAUUCGGUUGGGGGGAAUGAGGAAGGAAGUAUGCUAAAUCUUUUUGGUAAUGCAAUUAUUUUGGUAAAUUAGUUGUAAUUUUUACUUUUUACUCUUGUUACUCUAAUCUCCAUGAAUUUUGAGGAAAAAUUUUCAAAUUAAACCAAGAGAAAUUGAACUGUUGUUUUUCACUUGACUUAGAGUAUGGAUUAUGCUUACUAAAGUGGUUCAAUUGUUUAAACUUCUAUUGAAAUUGAAUUUAGUUCUUCCACUUUAAGCUAUCCACACACUGUGCACAUUAGAUUCCGAUUAUAAGAUGAAAAUCUAUUUCCCUCUUGACUUAAGAUAAUUUUGGGACUUGGUAUAUUUGACCUCAUUUGAUAAAAUUGAAACACCCUGCAAAAGGCUAAUGAGCCUUUGAAAUAAAGAAAGUUGUUUGCUUGCCUUGAAACCUGAGCAAGGUCUGAGGGGUAUAUGGUGAAAGCCUUUAAAGCCUGGUGCCCUAAGCCUUAAUUGGUUGGGAGUCAUCGACCUCAAUGCUCGUUACAAGGGUGAAUAGGUAGAGUUAACAUAUGGUAAAUGCUUGGGUAUUAGAAAUUCAUUCUUAAAAGUCUAGGGAAAAAUCCGAGGAGUUAGUGGUUGAAAGAUCCUUAAAGCUUGGUGCCCUAAAUCUUAAAUGGUUGGGAGUCAUCGAUGGACCCCCAUAACAUGGACAAGUCAGAAAAAGUACCACAUAAAGCUACCUUAAAAAAAAAAAUAAAAAAAUAAAAAAAAAUGAUGAAAGUGUGUUCUUUUCUUAUUGAUUUUGGUCAGUUUGCUAAGUGUUGAAAAGAGAUAGGUUGGGGGGAGAGAUUAGUUUAGCAUAUUAUUCUCGGAAGCUAAGGAACCAAUACACAUAGAUUUUUGUGGAAGAUUAAAGUUUGGUUCUUAGAAAGUGGAAAUGACUUUAAAACUUCAGUUUGCAUAAUGCACUCCCUUGAUUGACAGUGUUUAGCAUAGUUUGUUAUAACUCUUGUUGAAAUUUGGGUUUGUAUUUCUUUAAUGUUUCAUGUGAGAAUUAGAUCAUCAUGCCACUUGAGAAUUGAUUUUGAUCAGCAUGAUGUGGUAAAUUUUAAUAUAGGUUGCUUUUUAUUUUCAUUGUUCUCUCCUAUUUUGCUAAGGGACUAGCAAUAUGUCGGUUGGGGGGAGUGAUUACUACUCAAAAAGUGCUAUUUGAUAGCCUAUAAUAAAUCCUUUUAAACACUUUUGAGUAGUAGUUUAGGCCUUUUAACUCAAUUGGCAUGUUAAGGACCCUUGAAAGGGAUUUUAAUCACUUUGUGUAAGUUUUGGUGUUUUUGUUAGUAAUUUAAUCACCAAAGCAAGUCAAGACUGAGGAGAGAUAUGAGGAAUCUUGGGCAAAGCUUAGAAGUCAUUUUCCAAGAGUAAAUCCGGAUUGCAAGGAGAAAAAGUAAAGAGAAUCUGCCAUGAAGCCUAUUCUUGAUGACAGUCGUAGCAGCCACUUUUGGAGCAUUUUAUGAAGCUCAAAUGAUGCAUGCUAUAUACCAUUUCAAAGCUCAGGAAGUCAACAAUCCAAUGCUUCAAACGGUGUGCAAUUCGGAGUUGAAACGAAGAAGUUGCAGCCGUUACAAGCCAAUCACUUCGAGCUGAAGGAAGCAUUUUGCAAAGUGCUGCGAAAUCACCCUUUUGUUGCGAAGUGAUUUCGCAGCCUUUUUGAACAGUCUGAUGUUUCUCCUUCUGACGAUGCCCGACAUAUACCGCGAGAGGGAAGCUAGGAACCUCAAGGUGGGAGCCAACUUCGCAGCCCUGCGAGUUUAACUUGUUGAUGCGAAAAUAUUUCGCAGCCCUCUUGAGUGUCUGCGAAAUCUCGCAGACACCAUUUUUCUCCUGCGAAAUGGUUCCUGAAGCCUCCCGAUAUUUGCUACCGACAUUGGGAGAUAUUUUCCAUUAGAUUUUUGUUGUCUAAAUCCCAAAGUACUCCUUGUAAACCACCAAUUACAUGAUUCCUUAGCUUUUAAGUUAGUAAAAAGACUAAAUAUCUAUGUAAUAAUUAGUUUUAUAUUAUGUUCAUAUAUAUACCUCUCGGGAGCCUGUUCUCAGGGAGGAGUUCCUUCUGUAAAAGUUUGGGUAAGCAAGUAAAGUUUAUUUCUUUCUAUUGCUUUACCUUCUCACUUUGUAUUUUCAUUUUCUUACUAAGUUAUGAAUUCUCUGAGGAGUUUUUCCCAGAGAAUGAGUAACUAAACCUCUAAUUCCUUGGAGCUAAGGUUGCCAGGGAAGGUUCCAAGUGCAAGAAUGCAAGGCUUUGUGGUUUUAGCUAUUAAUGAAGAGGAAGUGAAAUCCUUUAAUGAUUUCUAUGUUUUUAGUUAACUUAAAACACCUUAGAGUCACCUGGGCCAACACUUGGUAAGGCAUGUGAUUUCCAACCAAGGAAAUGCACUAGUUUACCCCUUACGAGCCUCUGGGAGGUGACUUUAGGGUAGGAUUUUCUAGAAUAGCCAACACUUGGUAAGCUUUUAGACUCCUAGGAGACAUCCAUUAGUUAUCUCUUGCGAGCUUUUGACGGGUAAUCCAAGGUUAAAGAUCACCUUGAAUGGUUGAGGCUUAGUGAGAGGCUUAAACCAUUGCAAGUUGCAUCAGUGAGAGAAUUAAAGUGAAAUCUAAUUGAAGGAGUCUCUGUACAACACCGGUUAGAGAAUUGACUAUAUGUUGAAUCUCUAACGCGAGGAAAUGAACCAUCUGACCAGAGCCGUGUCUUUUGCAUGAGGAACCACCCCAGUGAACCUAACUCUCCAAGGAAUGCUUUUCUUCCUAAAUUAUUCCAAACUUCUGUUGUGUUAGUUAGUUUAAGUCUAAACCUUUACCAAUCAAAGCUUGUGUUUUACUUCUUAAGCUAACCAUGAAAUGAAACAAAACCAAUUCACUUGGAAUUGGUAUCAUUGAUAGCUUGCUAAUCCUUCCCAGUGAACGAUCCUAGAGCCGCUAUACUAUAGUAGCUUUUUCUUUGCUACCCUAUUAUAUGGUGUUAUAGGUUAUAAAUUUUUUUGAUUACUCCCUCAAUCAAGGAGCACCAGUUGGACACAAAUCAGCUGAGACACCAAUUGGGCACGAAUCAGCCCAUCUAGGCACAUUUGGCUCAUUUAGGAUCAUAGGCUAAUUUAGGCACAUUCGACCCAUUUAGGUUGCCUUGACCCAUUUAGAAACACCCAAGCCUAUUUAGGUCACUUAGGCCUACUUAGGCACACCUUGCCCUAUUUAGGUCACUUAGGCCCAUUUAGGCACAUUCGACCCAUUUUGGAUCACCUUGACCCAUUUAGGCAUAUUUGGCCCAUUUAGGAUCAUCGUGGCCCAUUUAAACACACCCUGACCCAUUUAGGUCAUUUAGGCCCAUUUAGGAGCAUUCGACCUAUUUAAACAUAUUUGGCCCAUUUAGGAUCAUCGUGGCCCAUUUAAACACACCCUGGCCCAUUUAGCUCAUUAAGGCCCAUUUAAGAACACAUUAACCCAUUUAGGUCACUUAGGCCCAUUUAGGUACAUUUCAUCCCCUAGCCCAUUUAGAAACACCCAAGCCCAUUUAGGUGAUUUAGGCCAAUUUAGGCACAUUUGGUCCAUUUAGACACUCUGGGCUCAUUUAGGUUCACGUAGGCCCAUUUAGGCACAUCCGACCCAUUUAAGAUCACCCUAACCCAUUUAGACACAUUCGACCCAUUUAGGAUCGUCUAGGCCCAUUGUAGCACAUUUGGCCCAUUUAUGAUCACCAUGGCACAUUAGGCCCAUUUAGGGUCACUUAGGCCCAUCUAGGCACACGCUAAGCCCAUUUAGGUCACCCGUUGUCUCACUUCUUAUUGCAUGGUUUGCGUGAUUGCAUUGUUGAACUUCCUUGCAGGGCUUGCAUGACACUUUGUUUUUUUUUUUUUUGUUAUUAUUAAUUACUUAUUUAUUUUUAUUUAUUAUCUUGCUAUUUAUUUAUUUAUUAUUUAUCUAUUAUUAUUUCAUUAUUUUCUAAAUUAUUUUUAAUUACUAUUCAUUUGUUCAAUCUAAUUUUUUAGUAUUAUUUUUUUUUGUGUUUUUGUAGGGAAAUUUACCAAAGAGAGCCAACGGAGAUGGAAAUUAAGAAUCACCAAAAUAAAAAAGGAAGAUAAAGGCAAAAGAGAGUAAAACUUACCAAAAGGAGAGGGGCUUGUGAGUUGCAUUAUGAAAGUAUGGAGAACACAUUUUGGGAGGUUUAUCAAAGAGAGAGUCAAUGGAGGUGUAAAGCAAGAAUUACCAAAAUAAAAAAGGAAGACAAAGCGAGAGAGAGAGUAAAACUUACCAAGAGAAGAGGGGAUUGAGGGUUGCAUUAUGAAAAUAUGGAGAACAUGUUUUGGUAACUGAGAAAUUCAGCAUAUGGAGGUUUUGGAGUAAGGAGAUGAAGGAUUUGGUCAAGGUGGAAUUUUAAGAAAAAAGGAUAUUCAAUGUGGUAGGAAGGAAUGUUUAGCAUAUUAAGGAAGAAUGUGGGGAUUGGUAGGGGGGAAGAAGAACAACUGCAAUUUUUCUUUUUUCUUUUUUGGUAGAGAGAACACUUUGGCAAAUUUUUGGGAGGUUCAACGUGCAUGUACAAUAAGAUCUCUUGAAAGAGAACCUAUAGAAGAGGGCACAAAUUAUUUUUGGAGACAAUUAGUUGCAUCUUAAAAGGGAAUUGAAGGAAAAUAUUGAUGAUGAUAUUGAUUUUAUUAGUUUCCAAAAUAUUGAUAUUAGUUUCAUGAAUAUGGAUGUUUUAGUUUAGAUAGAUAUUGAUGUUUUAGUUUUGAAAAUAUUGAUGUUUGCUUAGAUGUUUUGAUUCAGAUAAAUUUUGACAUUUUAGUUUUGAUAAAUAUUGAAUUCUUGGAUGUGUUUGCAUGUUGGUUAUAUUUUUAAAUAAAAAUUCUCAGAACGUUAGUCAUCCGAGAAAAUAAAAAUAAUAUAAGAAAAAAGCAAAGUUGUUGCCUUUUUUUUUUUUUUUUUGGCCUGUAUUAAUUUUAUUUUUAAAUUUCAUUGGAUGAUUAGUUGGGGUAUAAUUCACAUGUUAUUUUUAUUGGAUGAUUAGUUUGGUUAUAAUUCACAUGGUGGUAUUAAUUUAAAAAUUCAUUGGAUGAUUAUUUUGAGCAUAAUUUUUGUAAAAUUUAUUGGAUGAUUGGUUUGUAUAAUUUUAAUGUUAGUAGAUUUUAAAAAUUUAUGGAAUGAUUGUUAGGUUAAAUUCCCAUGUUGAAUGUGUUUUAAAAAUUCGUUAAAAAAAUUAAAUACAAAUUCUUUUUUUAUUUAUUAAUUAAAUAAAAUUAAAUGAUUGGCUAUAAAUUAAAUAUUUACAAAUGAUUCCUCAGAAUGGGAAACGAAAGGCUAUAAAUGAUUGGCAGCUUAGAAACCUCAACAAGCCCAUCUCUAAAACCUUUCUAAAAUAAGAAAGUCAUCCAAGAAGAUAAAAAUAAUAUAAGAAAAAGGCAAAGUUGCUGCCUUUUUUUUUUUUUUUGGGCUGUAUUUAUUUAUUAAUUUAUUUUUGUCAAUCUCCUACAGAAGGUGGCAGAGAAAGGUAGAGAGGAGUUAUUAGAGUUACAGACGAAUAAUCAGUUUCAAUGCUAUUGUCUUCUUGUUGUAAGGGUAAAAUAAGAGGCAAACAAAUUAAUGAAUUCAUUAUCUUAGCUUUCUAUUGAAAUGCCUUCCAAGAAAUGUUUUGAAAGGUUUUGAGAGCUUUGAGUUUAGUCUAGAAUAAUGGUAGUAUAUUUCAGUGAAUAUGCAUUCUAAAAAAAUAUAUACCUUUAGCAUAUACCAAGAUAUCCAGUAACAACCAAUCAAAACAAAAUCACUCUUCUUGGAAAACAUGGAUGUUCGAGUACCCAGCUCUUUUCUUUAAUUGUGCUUUCUUCUUUUUGUGCCAACAUCUGCUCUCUCUCCAGCAUGCCAGUGUGCGUCCCAGCCAGCUCUUUUGUGCUUUAAAUGAAUUGAAUACUUGAUCUUAUUCUGCCAUUGUUUUGGCUCAAACCUAAGAAGUAUAUUUACCCUAACUUCUUUUCAUGUCUUCAACUUACUCAAAGGCUCACAAGUCCCAUUGGAAGUAAGCAGUUAAGGAUUUUUGAACUAAAAUUAUCAAACAUAGUCUAAUAGGUUAUACUCUUUUCAACAGUUUAAAUUGUUUUUGUUGAUAGAUUAUUUGAUUUUUCUCCUAGCUGGCCCAGUUGUUUAUUUCAAAGUGCAGUUUAGAACAACUUUCAACAUUUGAAUAAGGAAAAGAAAAUAUAUAGAUGAAUUGACUGAUUCAAAGGGCAUAUUACAGUCAGUCUGGUCACCUACAUUAUUAAUGAAAUUAUUGACGCAGAAUAACAGGGCGGAUGACUUCAAAUGGAUACACUGAGGUCUAUCUGUGCGUGUUAGGCAUUCAUGAACCUGUUUUCUUCGGUCAAAGAGCAGCCAUUACAAGGAAAAAACAUGGCGAAAAUUAAGUGAAGUAUGACUUCUGGAAGAUUUAUCACCUUCGUAAAUGAAGUGAGAGUUUUGACCGAAUUGAAGUAAAAAAAUUAAAUGCAACGGCCGGACCGGCUCCAACUAUUAAGAUUAUAAGUGCCACACAGAAAGAACAGAAAGAACGGUCCUAGUAAAUGAAGUAUAAAGACAUGUAAACAUAAAAUUGUCCAGGUAAAUGAAGACAUGCAAUGAAGAAGAAAUCUGUUGCAGACUACACAAAUCACAACCACAUAAAUCAACCACCCACCCAUUUUUCAAACUUCCAGCUCUCAUGCACUGGCACAGUUCGGUCCUUUUAAAGAUUAAAGUAGGCAUCUAAAAUUUUAUUGGUUUCAAGAAAUUUGGUGCACCAGGUUCCAAUGAAGAGAAGCUUUUUGUUCUAAAUAUUUAAUAGUAGAUUCCAUUCUUAGCUUACCAAUAUAUAUAAAUUACUCAGGACCUUAAGAAGUUGAUAUUACAAUUUAAACAAUGUUAUAUCAUGUGUAUUAGGAGAGAACCAAUCUCACCCACAAAUCAAGAACACUCAAUUGUCAAUUCUUAAGUUUAUCACUAAUAUAUGUAUACUUAUAUAGUUUAUGUAUCUUUUGGAAAGUCAUGUGUAUAUUUAAAAGAUUAUAGUGUACACCAAUAAUAAUAUACUUUCACCAUUCAUCUAUGCACCUCUUUCUAGUAUCAGAGCAAUUCUACCUCCCAUGAGUUCUUUUUUUCUCCUUCAUCCUAUGUUUCACCAUGGCUGAAGCAAGCUCAACAAGGCUAUCCCACCUUCCCUUACCUACCAAUACCACCGUGAACCUUAACAAUCUCAUUGCCAUCAACACAAUUAGCUAGCCAACUUCCACUCAAGCUCACCCUCACUAACUAUUACUCAUGGAAAACAUAGUUUGGUGCACUGCUCUUUAGAUAUGACUGUAGACCCUCAAUUUUGUCCCUUUAACACAUGUCUUUAAGUUCGUUUUCAGUGCUCCACAAUAGUUCCUUGGUGGCCCAGUACUAUUCAUUACUUACCUUUCUUGAGCCACCUCGAAGACUCUGGUUGAGGGAUUAUCUGACCCCUUAUUAUGACCCUUGGCAGUUUUGAUUUAGACUUAGGUUUUUCCUUCCUUUUUAGGAUAGCAUUUAGGUGCACUUUUAGGAUAGCACACUUAGGCAUUGUCCUAAACAUCCUAGUCUCACUUAGACACUUUUUUUUUUAGACUCACUCAGGUUCGCUAGGUCCACCUAAGCAUCCCAGCCCAUUUGCAUUUUUAAUGCUUGCAUGUACUUGAUCUCUUAUUUAUUUAUUAUUAUUUGGUUAGUUAUUUGUUUUUAUUUAUUUAUUUUAUAGAAUAUUGCAUGAGAUUGAUGAUUAAUUGUGUAAAUUGAUGUCUUAAUUAUUUUUGUGUACCUAUGAUAGACAUAAUGUUUUUAAUUGCAUAAUUUUAAAUUAGUUUUAAUUUUCAAUUUCAUGACCUUUACUAAUUUUAAUUCUUAUUUUUAUUUUGGCAUGAGAUUCGAAUGCACACAUUGGAGAAGAUCCUUGAUGUACACGGCUGCAUAUAUGUGGGAAGAUUCUAUGCAACAUGGAAAGGAGAUUUAAAAUGUUAAAGAAAGGAAAGCAGAUCACUUAUGAAGGAUGGAAAGAAGAUUUUUCUUUUAUUUAUUUUUUUUUUUCUAAAAAAGGGGCUGCCAUUUAUUGGGAAGGAGGAUCACCAAAAUUUUAAAGAAAGGAAAGUAGCUGCCCAUAGAAUAAUAUAUGGAAACUUCCAUACAAAAGGGGGGAUUCUUGGAUGGUCAGAGGGGGAAAGGAGCACGUAUUGGAGGAUGGGAGAAUUCUGAAGGGAGGAGAGAGGAACGUGUAUUGGGAACGCAGGGAGAUACAUAGAAAGCAAGGAGGUUAGGCUAUGAUUUUGAGAGGGCGGGCUGCUGUUUUCAAAGGGAUCAGCCCGUGGAUUUUGAGAGUGAGAGAUUAGUCCGCGGAUUUUUAGAGUGGAGGAUCAGUCCGUUUCAGAGUAGAGGACUGGCUGCUAUUUUUUUAAGAGAUCAGUCUAUGGAUUUUCAGGAUGGUGGACCAAUUCGUUUUAGAGGAGAGGACGGUCUGCUUUUUUUUUAAAAAAGAUCAGUUCGUGGAUUUUGAGAGUGGGAGAUCACUCCGUGAAUUUUUAGAGUGGGGGAUCAGUCCGUUUCAGAGGAGAGGGCAGGCUGCUAUUUUUUUUUAAGAGAUCAGUCCAUGUAUUUUCAGGGUGGAGGAUCAGUCUGUUUCAAAGGAAAGGGCGGGCUGCUAUUUUUUUAAGAGAUCAGUCCAUGGAAUUUAAGAGUGGACGAUUAGUCCAUUUCAGAUGAGAAGGUGGGCUGUUAUUUUUUUUAGAGAUCAGUUCGUGGAUUUUCGAAGUGGAAUUUGGAGGAUCCUCACGCAGCCAUAGAAGGAGUGGGCUGCCACAGAAAUAAAGGGAGAAGAACAGGAAAAAGGAGAGAGAUCAAUCCAUGUUUCAAAGAGAUUAGAGGCUGCUGUUUGGGCAAAGAGCAGUCCGUGUUUUGAAAUGAUUUUGGGGGCUGCUAUUUGGAGGGAUCAAUCCGUGUUUUGAAAGGAAGGGGGCAGCAGCGGCACGAAGGAGAAUUCGGGUGAAAGGAGAAGGAUGGAUUUUCUGGAAUGUGAGAGGGUGCAGCCGCAACACUUUGUGCGAUACCCGAGCAUCUCCGACAACAUCUUAUGGCUGUUGGAGAUUCGCACCAGCUUGUUAAUCCCGCCACCUAAACACCACAGCCGCACCGGAUUUUCAAAGGGAAUUCAUAUCCACGCAGCACUUUGAGGAUUUGCAGCACAUAGGUAUCCACCACACCAUGCAUCCUUGGAAUUUUUUUUUAAUUAAAAAGUCCUACUAGUGGAAAGUAGUCUUCACAUUUUGAAAAGGUAUUUAAAGAAUUUGCUGUGCAAGGGUAUCCACCACACUAUGCAUCAUUGGAAUUGUUUUUUUGUUGUUUUUAUUAAAAAAAAUCCUACUAGUGGAAAAUGACCUUCACGUGUUAAAAAAAAGUAAACUAAUUCAUCCCAUUUCAAUUUUGCUCCAUGAAACAUUCAAUUCAAUUCAUAGUUGUUUAGAAUUUUGGUUAUUUAGUUUAAUUUAUUCCAAUGUCAAUAUAUUCAUGCUAUCAAGUUGUUAAGUUUAGCUUUAAAUUAUUCCUAUUUGGCCUAUGCAUUUUCAAGGUUUAUUUUAUUAGAAAUUCAUGGUUAAUUUAGAUGUUAUUUAUUUAUUUAUUUUUAAUUUUUCUUAUCUAAAUAAAUUAAUUAUUACUGAUUCAUUAUUCUAGUUUGAAGAUUAUGAUUUUUGUUUAAUAUAGUUACAAUUUAUUAUUCUUAGUUUGACAAAUUAAUUUUUUAGUAUUGGUUUGGGCAAUUUUUGUUAAUAAUGGAAAAGUUAAGAUUUUUUAGAGUUUAGGUAAUUUGUUAUGAUAGGUAAAAAUUUAGAAUUUUGAUUAGCAUUAUUUUGGUUCUCAAUUAGGAAAUUCAUAAUUUCUUUUAGUUUAGUUUUAAUCUAUCUUUUAGUUUAGAUGUUAUUAAAAUUCAGUUCAUUAGUUCAAUUGAUUCCAUGUCACAUCUUUUCGUAUCUAAAGGUUGUUAAAUUUAAUUCAUGAUUCAUUCUUUUAGUUUAUUAAUUUUAGAAUUUAAGUUGGUUAAUUUAUUUCAUUCCGCAUUGAUAUAUUCAUGUUUUAAAAUAAAUAAAGAAAAAAAAUUAUUUUAGUUUUGAUUGAUCCUACUUUAGUUGAUAUUCUUUAGAGUUUUAAUUAAUUCGAUUGGUUUCAUAUUGUUUAGUUUAUGUUAAAAUUUUUCAAUUCCAUUUUGCUAUUAAUUCUAUGCUUUCAAAUUGUAGGCUAUUAGUUUAAUCUAUCCCCAUGUUGCCAUUUUGCGUUUAAAAAUAGUUCAUUUUCGUUUUUGAUUAAUUUUAUUUAUUUUAUGUGUUUGUCUUUUUUUUUAUUACUUUCUUAUUUUUUAUUAUUAUUUUUUUUAUUUUUUUAUUUUUUAUUACUCAUUUGUUUAGUUAGUCGAUUAAAUUUAUGACUCCAAAUUGUCAAUAUUAGUUGAUAUGUAUCGUUUGUACUAUUUUAAAGGUCACAUAAUAUUUAGUGCUUGAUUAAGUUUAUCUUAAGAUUAAAUGUUGUUAAAGUUUCAAUGCUUGUAAGAUCUAAGGUUUCAGUUUAUCACUUUGGUCAUCCUUUGUCAAAUUCAAUUUUUAGAGGCUAUCGGAAAAUAGUGAAGAUUAGCCUCCAUUCUCACCUUCAAUUUUCUUGGUUGUCAAAAAUUCUACUUUGUGAUUUUGUUCUCUUUUGUUUUGCUUGGUAUUUUGAUUCAUACACUUUAUUGCUUUCAAAUUAAUUUCUUUUUAUUUUUAAAAUACAACACUAUUCUCAAAAUCUCAUUUUCCUUAAAAAUUCAUUUAGAGUUCUUAGAAUCAAAAUCUCAUUUUUUUAAAAAUAAUGUGCAACCAUGUUUUGAUCGGUUCACAUCUUUCAAAUAAAAUUACAGUUUUGAAUAAAACACGAAUCAAAGCUUGUGGUCCCAAAUAAAUGGGAUAAUUCUAGGCUAAAUUCGUGUAUAUCAAUUGGGGAAUUGGUGAAACCCCUACAUAAGAAAAUCUUUUCAAAAAUUAUUUUCGUUGCCACUUUUGUCACUUGUUGAAAUUAUGUCUAUCUUUUUAUUAGAAAUUGUAUACAAGAUGAGUGUGAUAAUUAUCGUUUUCAUAUACUUUGAUAAUUUCUGCUAUGCUAAUUAGAUAACGAGCAUGCUAGGCUUUCUAUAUUUUAUUAUUUAUCAUCUAACCCCUUACAACUUGAGGAAGCAUGUUACAAAUUAUCUAUGCUAUCCAGGUAUGUCUUCUAUCACCUACUUUCUGAAUUUUGUGAACAUGCUUGUCAUUGUGAAAUAAUACUUAUGUCUAAUAAUGCUCGAAUAUUCUGAUAUACAUGUUUCAUUGCUUGAUUAUUUCUGAUAAAAUACAUGUUGGAUGAUAUAUUGUUUAAAUUAACCAUCGAUGUUUUAUGAUAGCGCUUGAGAAGCCGUCCAGGUAUGCACCCUAACUCUCUUUUAUGGAAAUCUGAUCCUAUUUGGCAUGUUAUUUUUCGAAAUCACCUUAGUCUGUUUAGGUAUCCCCAAUUAAUCAAUUAAUUACCAUUUUACCCCCAACUUUGUUAGUAGAGACCUUUUUAGGGCUUAGAGGGGUGCUACCUCCUAGAGGUACCUUCCCAAUAAGUAACCUGAUCCCCAGACCUAGACUCGGGUUUCUCAAAGACACGCUUUUCCAAAAAUUAUGGAGUCAUUUUUUUUAGGGUUUUAUUUCUUGUUUUAUUUUCCCUUUAAAAAAAAAAUAAAAUAAGUGGCGACUCCAACUGUUUUUCAAAAAAUCAAUUUUUCACAAAAAUAAUAAAAAGCGAGUCUCGCCAAUCGAGUGGGGACGCACGUGAAAAAUGCGGGUCCACAAUGACCUACUUGGCUACAUUGACGGAACAAAGCCAGGACAAACAAAUCUCAAUCCUAACUAUACUUUUUGGACAAGUAGGACAAACUUCUUCUUCUAGGAAUCAUCGGCUCUCUUAUUGGAUUUUAAGGGAAUGGAAACAAAGACUAUCCCAAAAGACACAAACAAAUAACAGAAUGAAUAAAAAGAAAAAAUUAUCGGCUGAGGUGUGACAAACACUAUCCUUGAAAUAGAUCCACCCUCCUCGAAGACAAACUCGGUGCACUAGGGUACCAAUGGUCUACUUCCAGGAUUCAACAGCUAGAUCUCGCCUUGGGUGCACUCUGAAAUCGAGAUGUAUACAACUUGAAUUUUUUAAUAAAUUCCUCCAAUUAGAUGUAUGAAAAUACUCCCUGAAAAACUCUUCAAAAAAAUUCUCUAAAAAAUUUUGUAUCCAAAGUAUAGAGAGGGGUGACCUGCUUUUUUAGGCCACUAACACAAUCUCAAUGGGAAUCUACUUAUAAUUAGAAGAUGACACAAAGUGGAAGGUGAUUCUACUUAUAAAAGGAAUGAGAUUCCACUAGCACAAUUCCAAUAGGACUCUUCCCAAAAAUAUAACACUAAUAGAAUAAAAUAAAAUAUAAAAAAAUAAAAAAAUAAUUCUCAAUAGGACACUUCCCAAAAAUUUAAGACUCAUAGAAUAAAAUAAAAUAAAAUAAAGUUAAUUUCCAAAAAUAAAAAUAGAAAUUAUUUACACUCAUCCUAUAUCUCUCAGCCACAAAGUCAUACUUGUGGUUCAUUGAUGCAAAACUUCCACUAAAGCUUGGCAUCAUUUUUCAAAGCUCUAUGUCAAUCCCUCAUUCUCCAGAACCAUGGGAUUGGUAGAGCAACUCAUUCUUCUCAACCAUGGCUCUUAACCAAUAGUUAACUACCUUGCAACAGUCCAUGAUAUUAUUGAUGAAUUGGACCUUCUUAGAGAAGCCAUUCCAAACCAAUAACUCAUCACUUACGUAUGCAAACAUGUCACCCCUGAAUUCAAUGAAUUGUUGUUGUUAUAUGCACACAAGAUACUAUGAUCACAUUUGAUGAGCUGAAUGAAAAAUUAGUGGAAUAUGAUGCCUUCCUCAUGUAGGAAGAGCUUUGUUCCACUAGCACUCUUGGUACCACUAAAGUCAACAAUACACAAUUUUCAUCUUCCCAUAGUGACAAAAACGCUAGCCAAAAAUAUUUCCCUAGUAGGAAAGGAUACCAAGGCUAACAUCCUCCUCAUUUUGGGAAUCAACACCCCAACAAGAACGCCACUUUGAUUUGCCAAUUCUGUGAGAAGAAAGGUCAUACUACUUGCUAGUGUUACAUGGCUAAGAAAUUGUUCCUUUCAUCCACACUUACUACUAGUCCAAUUAUCCCCACAAACAACUUCUUAACCAAUUGGCUCGCAGAUAUCAGUGCCUCACAUCAAGUUACAUCUAAUCUUAACAACUUGUCUCUCUGCUAACCAAUGAAUCUAGUCAUUAAUAGUUUUCACAUUUCCUAUACUUGGAGGGUUGUUCCAAGAUUAAAUAAAGUUUUUUCCCAUGCUAAUCUUAAUAUAGUGAUUCAUGCCCAGUCGGGUGUUUAUCAAAACAUUUAUAAAACCUACAACACCUUAUACUAAGGUAGCAAAGACAAAGCUACUAUAGUAUAGUGGCUCUAGGAUUGUCCACAGGGAUGGGUUUUCUUUGUACACUUAACAUUAAUGAAAGGAGAAAUGGUGAUUUCCUUUUUGGAAGUUAGCUUUUAAAUGAAAAUAAGAUUGAUUGGAAGGGUUGAUUUUAAGUUAAGCAAACAUAAACAACUGAAAUUACUAUAAAGAGAAAGUCUCUUGGAGCUAUAGGUUACUAGGAUCAGGUUCCUGUUGCAAAGUGGGAAAUUACGGAUCUUCUCCUCGCAUUGGGGAUAAUAACAUAAAGGAUGGUUAUCUCCCGAACCGGAUUUGUAUUUAGCAAAUAAGUUUUGAUCCAAAGGAUUCUUGAAAAAUGGUAGUUGCUUCCCAUUAAUGGCUUCAAACACUAAAGACCCUCACCUUGAACCACCUUCCAAUGGCUCGUACUUGAUAACUAAUGGACAUCCAUGGAUCUAGCAAUAAGCAUCCAUAGAAUCCUAAAAGCUUACCAAGUAUUGGCCAUUCAAGGUGAUUCUAAGGGAUCAAAGCUAAAACUUGAAAUACAAACCAUUAACGAUACACAACUACCUUCAUUUUUAGCAAGGAAAACUCCCACCUUUACAUAUGGGUCCUUUACCUAGCUUCCAUCACUCCAAGAAACGUGAAACUUAGCCACUCAUCCUCUGAGAAAUCAUCCUCUGAGGGUGUUUGGCUAGAGAGAAAGUGAAGAGAAAAUGAGAAGGAAAGGUAGAGAAAAACUCGUCUUUACAAAAUAUCUAAAACAUAAUAUCUCCCAUCCUUUGAGAGGUUUUCCAACCCCUAUUUAUAGAUCCUAAACAAACCCUAAUGUCAUUUAUCUAUUACAAAAAGAGAAAAGGAAAAAAUUACAAUUCUGGAGAUUUUUCCCGAAGGUCGGUGUGCAUAAAGUGAUUUUUGCACACCCUACAAAAAUUUGGCACACCUUGCGAAAAUUUGGCACACCUUGCGAAUUUGAUGAUUUUGCCUUGCAAAAUGCUCUGUUUCCCUCCAUCUUACUACUGAUAGCUUUGCCAACCCCUUUCCAAGUUUGCCAAGGGGUUUUGAAGUGCUCCAAGGCUCGGAUUCUUCAUGUGAUUGAUCUUCAACUUACCUUGCCAUAGCUUGCACAAAACUCUCCCUCAAUCUUGGCCUGUUUUGGUGAUAAAAAAGCUACCAAAAACACUAAAACUUACCAGAAAUUGGUUAGUAACAUUCGCUAGGUCCUUACAUGCCAAUUGGGAUAAAAAGGUCUAACUACUACUCAAAAGUGCUUAGUACAAUUAAGUUUAAGCUUAUAAAAAUGCACUUUUUGAGUAGUAAUCACUCCCCCCAACUGACACAUUGCUAGUCCCUUAGCAAUGAAGGAGAGAAAAAAAAAUGCAUCUCUCAUGGAAAAUCAAAGAUAUAAAACCCAACCUUCAACAAGAGUUAUUAAAUCACUUACCUAAUCACAAAAUACAAAGAGUGGGCAUUAUGCAAAUUUAAGCAUCAAAAGAAUUUCCACUCCCAAAGAUCCAACUCUUAAUCUUCCACAAGAAUCUAAGUGUUAAGGUGAUUAGUUUCCAAUUAUAGUAUGCUAAACUAUACUCUCACUCCCCCUAACUUAGUUCUUUCUCAAACUUGGCAAACUGACCAACAUCCAAUAGGUUAAGAACGCACCUCUUUUAUUUUACAAUUCUUUUAUUUGCUCAACUUCACCCAUUCACCCUUGUAAUGAGCAUUAAGGUCUAUGACUCCCAACCAAUUAAGGUUUAGGGCACCAGGCUUUAAAGACUUUCGCCAUAUACCCCUAGGACCUUGCUCGGGUUUCAAGGCAAGCACAACAUUUUUUUAUUUUUUUUCUGAAGGCUCAUUGGCCUUCUAUAAGGUGUCCCAACACUAUUAAAAUGAGGUCAAAGGUACCAAGUCAAAAUUUUCCUAAGUUCAAGGGGUGAGAUAAUUUUUCAUCUUAUAAUUGGAACCUAAUGUACACAGUGUGUGGUAAGAUUAAAGUGGAAGAAACAAGGUUGAAUUCAAUAGGAGCUUCAAUAAUUCAUCAACCUCAAUAAACACAAUACAAACUUUAAGACUUAAGCAAAAAGGCAAGAACUCAACUUCUCUCAUUUCAUUUUGAGAAUUUUUCCUUGACAACCAUGGAGAGUAGAGUAAUUUUAAAAAAAAAAUUAAACAAGAGGUAACUAAGAACAAAAUAUCCUAGCAAUAUUUACAAUACUUACUUCCUCAACUCUCCCCCCAAUCAAGAUGAACAUUGUCCUCAAUGUUUCAAUUGCAAGUGAAAAUAAACGGAGGAGGUGAUACCUUUUGAGGCAAAUUUUUCAUAGUCAUGCAAACGUUUCGCAAAAGGGAGCGAAAAUGACUAGAGAAGUGAGAAAUGAAGUUGGGAUGUAUGCUAUAAAAAAAAAAAUGUACUUUUUUUUUUUGUAGAGAAAAAUGAGGGGUGUAGAUUGUUCGCAAAGUGGAAUUUUCAUAAAAUAGAAUUUUCGCAAAAUGGAAUUUUCGUAAAGUGGGAUUUUCGUAAAGUGGGAUUUUCGUAAAAUGGAAUUUUCGCAAAAUGGAAUUUUCGCAAAGUGGAAUUUUUGCAAAAUGGGGUUUUCGCAAAGUGGGGUUUUCAAAACUUGAUUCGCAAGGUGAACUUUGAGUUUGCAAACCCUAUGGAAAUUCACAUUUGAAGACCGAGAGUUGUAGUUUUCAAAAAUGAUCACAAAGGGUUUUCGCAGAGGAUUCGCAUACCCUGUGUUUUUUCACAUAGGGUGCGAAGUUAAAGACCGAGAGCUUGAAUUUUUCAAAAAUCAUCAGGAGGAUUUCGCAGAGGGUGUGAAAUUUUCGCAUGCUCUGCGAAAUGGCAGUAGCUCACAUAAUGUAAAGAGCACUUUUCGCACAACAUGCGAAAAUUUCGCAGGGAGGUAUGCGAAAUGCUCUGCUUCAAUUUUUUCCUCAGUUUUUCCUCUGCCGACGAAUCCUUAAGUGCCCUCCCCUACAAGUGAUUGAUUACUACUCAAAAAGGGCUAUUUGAUAGCUUGUAAUUAACUCUUUUAAACACUUUUGAGUAGUAAUUAUUGCCCUUUAACCCAAUUAACAUAUUAAGGACCUUUGCAAUCACUUCUAAUCACUUUGUGUAAGUUUUGGUGUUUUUGUUAGUAAUUUGAUCACCAAAGCAAUCCAAGAAGGAGGAGAAGUAAAGAGAGAAUCUACCUUGAAGCAUUCUUGAUGACAGUCAUUUCAGCCACUUUUGGAGUACUUCCUAAAGUCCAAUUUAUGCAUGCUUUAUGUCGUUUCGAAGAUCGGGAAGUCAACAAUCCAAUGCUUCAAACGGUUUGCAAAUCAGAGUUGAAAUGAAGAAGUUAGAGCCAAUGGAAGCAGAUCACUCCAAGCUGAAGGCCAAUUUCGCAGGGCUGCGAAAUCAGCCUUCGGCUGCGAAAUGAUUUCGCAGCCAUCUUGUUCGUCUACGAAAUUUCGCAGCCAUUUUGUGCGCCUGCGAAAUUCUCCUGAGUGCUUCCAGUUAUUUGCGACCAUCGUUUUUUGUUAUUUUGCCUCAGAUAUUUGUUGUCUAAAUUCCAAUUCUCUCCUUGUAAUCCACCAAUUAGAUGAUUCCUUAGUUGUUGAGCAAGGAUGCAGGGGUAAACAACCUGAUAUGUAUUGUUUUGUAUUUUUCACUUUAAAACAUCGGGGAACUUUCCCCAGGAGAACGGAUGUAAAUUUUACACUUAGCUAAAUACGAAGUAUCUUUUGCUUUCUUUUUCUCUCUACUAUUCCCUAUUUUCUCAGUAGCCAAACAUCCUUGGAGGAUGAAAUCCCCAAGGAUGAGAGGCUAAAACUUUUUAGUUUCUUGAAGUAAUGGAUGCCAUGUGAAGCUCCCGUGUCAGGAUGGAGAUUUCCAAGCCAUGAAUGUAAGUAGUUGAGCAUCAUAAAUGUUUUCAUUCAAAGUAAAGCUUUUAAUCCCUCUGACUUGCUUUGAAUGGCCAAUACUUGAUAACCUUUUGGUCUCAGUGGAUUCUUAUUGUUAGAUCCACUGACGUUCAUUAGUUAUCUCCUACGAGCCAUUGUAUUGCAAGUCGAGGAGAUGACCUAUAUCAUUAAAAGAGCAUUUAUGAGGUUCAGCUACCCUUUUUGUAAGUUUUGAAGGACUAAAACUCAGUUGUUAAACACAUACCGGUUCGGGAAGUAAGCAUCACCUUAGUUGCUUCCCCAACUCGAGGUGAAAAGUUCCAAAAUCUCCAUUUUUACACAUUGAGUUAAGCAUGGCUAUCCAAAGCUUUGAGAAACUUCUUUUUCCAUCUUUUAACCUAUUUGCAUGUUAGUUUAGUUUAAAACACUUUCAUCUUUUUAUGUUUUCAUCUUAACCUAAUUUUUAUUAAGAAAAGUUCACUCCAUCCUCCGAACUUCAUCAGUUAAAGUAAAAACCCUUCCCAGUGUUCGAUCCUAGAGCCACUAUGCUAUAGUAGCUUUGCUACUUUAGUGUAAGGACGUUAGGUAUAAAUUUUGUUGAUACCCUUACAUGCCAAGCUACCAAGAGUCGGGUUAUCAGUGAUCAUCAAAAACCUAAAUUAAAUCAAACUAAAAUGGAAUUCAAGCAAGAAAAUGAAAUAAAAACAAAUACAAAUACAAGAAAAAACAUGAAAUCAAAAACAAAAAACAAAAAUGGAUGAACUUAAUAAUUUUCAGAAAGAUUAAGUCCAUCCAGGAUCUAAUUUUUCAAGCCUGAGAGGGAUCAAGGAGGAUGAAUUCCUCCUUGUCUCGGGAAAAAUGCUCCAGAAAGGGCUUGAGACGAUGAAAGUUCGAUUGGUGUUGGCGUUGAGUAGCUCCACUACUCUAUUCGAAUACACUUGGUGGAUUGUGAAAGGACCUAACCACCUUGAUUUCAACUUGCCCGGAAAGAUAUGGAGCUUAGAGUCAUAAAGCAAGACUUUUUGUCCCUUUGAAAAGUUCUUUUGGGUCACCAACUGAUCAUGUCAUCUCUUCAACCUCUCUUUUGCAAUUUUGAAUUGAGGUAAGCAUCAUUUCGCAGUUCCUCCAACUCAUUGAGGUCUAAGAAUCUCUUCAACCCAACUUUGCUCAAAUCCAUGUUGAGUUUCUUGAUUGCCCACCAAGCCUUGUAUUCUAAUUCCACAGGGAGAUGGCAUGCUUUGCCAUAGACUAAGCGAUAAGGGGACAUCCCAAGAAUGGUCUUGUAAGCUGUUCUAUAAGCCCAUAGUGAAUCAAGGAGUUUGAUAGACCAAUAUGUUUUGUUCACAUUCACUACCUUUAUCAAUAUGUUCUUGAUCUCCCAGUUUUCCAACUCAACUUGCCCGCUAGUUUGAGGAUGGUAAGGCGUAGCUACCUUAUACUUCACCCCGUACUUGGCUAGAAGAGUUUCAAAAGGCUUGUUACAAAAAAUGAGUACCCUCAUCACUGAUUAUGGCUUUAGGCACUCCAAAUCUUGAGAAAAUGUUUUCCUUCAAGAACUUGAUAACCACCCUAUGGUCAUUGUGUUUGCAUGGAAUUGCUUCAACCCACUUAGAAACAUAAUUGAAUCUCACCAAGAUGUAGGAGUAGCCAAAUGACAUAGGAAAAGGUUCCAUGAAGUCAAUGCCCCAAACAUCAAAAAGAUCAACUAUCAGAAUAGGGUUCAAAGGCAUCAUAUUCCUUUGGGUCAACUUCCCAAGCCUUUAACAUCGAUCACAACCCUUGCACAUGGCAUGGGCAUCCUUGAAAAGUGAGGGCCAACAGAAACCCGAUUGCAAGACCCUCAUAGCUGUCUUUUGAGAAGCAAAGUGACCUCCACAAGCAUUCUCAUGGCAAUGAGAGAGAAUCCCCUGUUGCUCUUGUUCAGGAACACACUUUCUUAUUAUUUGAUCCAAAAAAUACUUGAAUAGAAAUGAUUCUUCCCAAUAGUAGGCAUGGAUCUUUACAAAGAAAUGUUUUCUAUCUUGUGUUUUCCACUCACUUGGAACUUCUCCAGUAACUAGGUAGUUUGCAAUAUGAGCAUACCACGGAGUUACUUCCACCAACAUGAGAGAUUCCUCUGGGAAGUCAUCAUUGAUGGGCAAACCAUGGGAAUUAUGUGCAAUUGCAAGCCUUGAAAGGUGGUCAGCUACCACAUUUUCUACUCCCUUCUUGUCUUUGAUUUGAAGAUUGAUCUCUUGAAGCAAGAGGGUUGAUUCCGUGCCCAACUGGUGUACCUUGAUUUCCGUCCUCUGAUGGGAGUAAUCAACAAAAUUUAUAACCUACUGCACCAUGUACUAGGAUAGCCUCGGCUAGCAUAGCAUAGUAGCUCUAAGAUUGUUCACUGGGAAGGGUUUUCAAUUAUAAAUGAUACUAAUUCAAAGUGAAUUGGUGCCUUUUCAUUUCAAGGUUAGCUUUAAAAGAAAACAUAAACUUGGGUUGGAAAAGGUUUGGUUUUAAGCUAACUAAAAAGAAAGUAAUGGGAAUUACUUAUAAAGAAAAGCGUUUCUUGGAGUUUUAGGAUCACCGGGGUCAGGCUCCUUAUACAAAAAAAAAGUUUUGGUCACUUUGAUUCUUUUCCUCGAAUUGGAGAAUUAACAUAUAGUUCAUUCUCCAACCGGUGUUGUACAGAUGCAGCCCAUUUAUGGAUUUCAGCAUUAAACCCCUCUCACUGAUGCAUCUCGCAAUGUCUUAUGCCUCCCACCUAGCAUUUGCCAUUCAAGGUGAUCAUUAACCUUGGACUUCCCUUCUCAAGCUCGCAAGAGGUAACUAAUGGAUGUCUCCUUAGAGUCCAAAAGCUUACCAAGUGUUGGCAAUUCUAGAAAAUCCUACCUUCAAGUCACCUCCCAAAGGCUUGCAAGAGAUAAACUAGUGAAUCUCCAUGGACGGAGAUCACUUGCCUUACCAAGUGUUGGCCCAGGUGAAUUGAAGGCAUUUUAAGUUAACUAAAAAGAUAAAAACCAUUAACGGGUUACAUUUCCUCUUCAUUUACAACUGAAACCACAAAACUCUAAAUUCAUGCAUUUGGAAACUUACCCAGCUACCUUAGUCCAAGAGACACAAAGUCUAGCCACUCAUUCUUUGAGGAAACAUCCUCAGAGCUUGUUUGGCUAGUAAGAAAAAUACAAUCAAAAUGAGAAGGUAAGGCAGAGCAAAGCUCUGUAUUUUACUUCCUUGAAAAACUAUACAAAAAGUUGGUUUUUCUCUGAGAACAGGCUCCCGAGAUAUCACUGAUAUGAAAAUUACAAUAAUAAUAUAUACAUGGCUAUUCACCCUUUUUGUCUUUCUUAGCAACUAAGGAAUCCUAUAAUUGGUGGGUUACAAGGAGAAAAUGGGGAUUUGGACAUCAAAUAUCUGAAGCAAAAUAUCCAAAAGUGUCGAUCACAAAUAUCUGGAAGCACUCAAGAGAAUUUCGCAGACGUACAAGAUGGCUGAGAAAUUUCGCAGCCAAAGGCUGAUUUCGUAGAGGCUUUCCUUAGGCUGCGAAAUUGGCCUUCAGCUUGGUGUGAUCGGCUUCCAAUGGUUCUAACUUCUUCAUUUCAACUCUGAUUCAUGUACCAUUUAAAGCUUUGGAUUGCUGACUUCCCGAGCUUCGAAACGACAUAUGGUGUAUAUCAAAUGGACUCUAGAAAGUGCUUCAAAAGUGUCAAAUAGUUGAUGUCCUCUUGCAUUAUUCAUGUUACUUUCAUCCUUGCAUUCUUGAUUUGUUUUUGGCAAAGGAUUACAAAGCUUCAAAGCUUGAAUUCUUCAUGUUAAUGAGCUUCCAAUUGCUUUGCCAUGGAUUCCAUAGAACUCUCCUUAGUCUUGGAUUGCUUUGGUGAUCAAAAUACUAUCAAAAACACCAAAACUUAAACUUUUUGAUUAGAAAUGAUUGCAAAGGUACUUAAUAUGUUAAUUGAGUUAAAAGGUAAUAACUACUACUCAAAAGUGUUUAAAAGAGUUAAUUACAAGCUAUCAAUUAGUACUUUUUGAGUAGUAAUCACUCCCCCCAACUGACAUAUUGCUAGUCCCUUAGCAAAAAAUGAGAGAAAAAGAAAAUUAAAAAGUAAAAAAAAUACUAUAAUUUACAACGUCAUGCUGAUCACUUCAAAAAAUUUUAAGUGGCAUGAUGAUCAAGCUCUCUCAUGGAACAUUAAAGAAAUGAAACUCAAAUUUCAGCAAGAGUUAUCACGUAUGUUUUCUAAUCAUAAUUCCAACAAGAGAAGGCAUUAUGCAAAUUGAAGCUUUAAAAUCAUUUCCAUUUCCAAAUGACCAACCCUUACUCUUCCACUAAAAUCUAAGUGUUACUUGAUAGUUUCCGAAUAUAGUAUGCUAAACUAAUCUCUCUCCCCAAUCUAGUUCUUUUUCAACACUUAGCAAACUGACCAAAUUCAAUAGGCUAAGAACACACCCUUUUAUUUAUUUAUUUAUUUUUAUUUUUUUUUUCAGCGUAGGAGUACAAGGCUUGAAGGUAUUCUUUUUCUAAAUUGUCCAUGUAGCGGGGGUCCAUCGAUGACUCCCAACCAAUUAAGGUUUAGGGCAUCAAGCUUUAAGGAUCUUUCAACCACUAACUCCUCGAAUUUUACCUCGAACUUUUGAGAGUGAAUUUUUAAUACCCAAGCACCUACAGUAUGUUAAACUCCACCUAUUCACCCUUGUAACGAGCAUUGAGGUCGGUGACUCCCAACCAAUUAAGGCUUAGGGCACCAGGUUUUAAAGAUUUUCACCAUAUACCCCUCAGACCUUGCUCGGGUUUCAAGGCAAGCAAACAUUUUCUUUUAAAGGCUCAUUGGCCUUUCAUAAGGUGUCUCAACACUAUUAAAUAAGGUAAAAAAUACCAAGUCUAAAUUUUCCUAAGUCAAGAGGGAAAUAGUUUUUCAUCUUAUAGUCGAAAUCUAUUGUGCACAGUGUGUGAAUAGCUUAAAGUGGAAGAACUAAGGUUGAAUUCAAUAGAAGUUCAACAAUUCAUCAACUUUAAUAAGCAUAAUACAAACUCUAAGUCAAGUAAACAAAAAUUCGAUUUCUCUUAUGUUAAUUUGAGAAUUUUUCUUUAAUAACCAUGGAGAAUAGAAUAAAAACUUUAAAAAUUUAAAAUUAAGCAAAAAGCAACUAAAUUAUCAAAAUAACUUAGCAUUAAUCACAAAACUUCCUUCCUCAACUCUCCCCUCAACCAAGCUGAACAUUGUCCUCAAUGUGAGAAAAGCGAUUGAACAGUAGGGAGGAAGUGGUGCCUCCUUAGUGGUAUGAAGUUCGGGUAGAAUAGGAGAACCCACAUGUUUCAUAAAACAACAAAAGAUAUCAGUAGAGGAAUUAAAAUAAUGCUAAAAAUGCUAACAAAUUGAUAGACUUGUAUUACUUGAAGAAAGUACAAGAUGGCUAACAAGUAAUACAACCAAUCCCAAUAUAUAAUAUCAAAAGCAUGGGAGUACAAUUUCUAUUUUAGUAAAAAAAAAAAAUACAUAAAGAAAAUACAUAAAGUAAAGUAUGUAAAUGAUCAGAUAGGGGGAGGGUGAUGAUGGCUCAGGUGGAUGUCUCUACAUCUCCUGCAGUCGGCGGCUCAGUAUAGGGCUCUGUGGGCUCUGAAAUGAUAGGAUUGGGGUACUCAGAAGCUGAUGGAAUACCCAGAUAGUGCUGAAUCUGCCUCAUAAUGGCAGUAUGCUGAGUCUGGGUGGCCAAAAUCUGCUCCUGAUGGGCACGAAAAGCUACCAUCUCCUAAGUAAGGAUGUUUUGAGAUGUGGUCAAUGUCUACAAAGUGUGACAAAGACCUCUAUACUCGGACAUGGAUAUAGCAAUCCUAGGCUCAGAUGACGAAGUGGGCUCUGAUGUAGAUGGUAUAACAGGAGGAGUCUGUGGUGUGGCAAGAGGAGCAGAGGGUGCAACCUUAGGUAUAGGCUCCUCAGGUUGUGGAAUGUCUGGAUGUUCUGCUCCAGCUGGGGAUCCAGGCUCUGCACUAUAUGCUGUCAUAUUUGACCAUUUAUCAAGAGUGAAUAUCUCUCGGCAAAUGCGUUUAUGCUCAUGGUGAGGCUCAGAUGGAUAGCCCAAAUGCUUGAAAAUCUGGCAAAGCAAUCUCGGGAAAAGAAGUGGAAUAGCAUGUGCUUGGAGCAGCUUCUUCUUGUGAACCUUCUCUUCAAAGUAGAGAAGAACAGCCAUAAUCAGAUGAUGAGGGCCAAAGAAGAAUCCCUCAGAUAUCCUAAACAGGGUCUCCAGCAAAACUCCUCUCCUCUGCACCCAAUGCUGAAGUGGAUAAAUGUUAUGGCGCAGGAGUGCAUCGAUGAAGAACAUGCUGGGAGGGAGCUCCUUCCUCAACAGAUACUGAUGUGAGGAUGCUCCUCUGGAUAGGAUAUGAACUAUGUCACUCUGAGCCGGAUGAGUCCAUACUUGAAAAUCCUCUGGAUGGGCUGGCUCGUAUGGAAUAUGCAGUGCCUGUGCUAUAUGUCGAGCUCUUAGAAUACCAUGAUGUCCGUCAAUGGUGAAGUGAAUGACAGUAGGAUCUCUGACCUGGUGUGUGGUCAUGGACUGAUAGAAGUCCAUGACUACACGGGCAUAGAAAAAAUCCCUAGGAGUCAGCAAAUGCUCCAUAUGAUACCUGUGUAGCAGAUGAAAGGAGUCCCGGAGCUCAGGCUAAAGUUUGAAAGUGGCUGUGUCAAAACACAGCUCAGAGUGAAAUGGUCGAGCCCUGCAAUCUAGAUUACCCUCAAUGGGCGGCUGAGCGUUCAUGGGACGCCUGAUAAUCACCUCAGGAGUCAUGCCUGAGGGAAUCUGAGAUUCUAUAGGUGGCGACUGAGACUGAUGAGGCUCCAACAGAGGCUCCGGAGACGGCUCCGUUAAGUCAAUUGGCUCUGAAUCCUCUACCCUGGAUUUUUUCAUUGGUGGACGGCCACCUGACCUUGUCUGAUAUCGUCUGACCGGUGGACUUAUCGGCAAGGGUUCAACCGGAGGUGGAGCGACUACUUGACGCGGAGGCUGGGAUGUGGAUCCUUGAACAGGGGUCUCUUUUGCGGCUUUCUUGCGGCCGGACGGGGAUGAGGACUUUGCUCCUCUGGUUCUUGCCAUGGCGAAUUGAAGAAAAUGGUUGGAGACACUUGCGGCUUGGGCUCAGACGAGAGAGAGCAAAUGAACGGUUGCUCUGGCUUUCUUUCUCUUUAGUAUCUUUUUGCAGCUCAAAUGACCGGUUUUUACAAAAUAUGGAAUUUAUAAGGUUCAAAAAAUGGAUACCAAGGGUCGUUUUAAUUUUUCGCAGAGGAGGGUCGAUUUCGCAAUGGAGGGGCUUUUUCGUAGCGAAGGGCCGAUUUCGUAGCCCAUUUCGCAACUGCGAAAUGAGGCUACUGUGCUACGAAAUGGCACUCGUGUGCCAAAGGGGUGUUUCGCAGCUGCGAAAAUUUUCGCAGAGGAGGGCAUGGGGCUGCGAAAUGAAUUUCGCAGCCGAUGGGCGAUUUCACAGCGGACCUUUUGGGGCUGCAAAAUCAUUUCGCAGGGGCCCCCUUUUGGCUGCGAAAUUUCGUAAACCACUACUUUUCCCUUUCUUUUAAAUUCCUUUUUGCUCCCAACGACCUUCCUUCGAUUUCUUUGCAAUUCCUCCUACAUGAGAUCAUUCAAAAAGAUUUAAUUACAUACAAAUACACAACUUAAGAUCAAAAAUUAAAAUUAAAAUAAUUAAUAAAGCUUUUAAAUUAACAAAAUUAAACAAAAAUAUGGACUUUGGUGAAACCAAGUCCAUCUAACCCUUGUCUGAUUAGGCUUUAUGUGGCUUAAGGAGGUUGAUUUCCUCAUUUUCUUUCUUGAAUGGCUCAAUGAAUGGCUUGAGACGAUGACCAUUGACCUUGAAAGUGUCAAUGCUGUUGGAAUUCAAUAAUUCCACCACUCCAUUCAAGCGCACUUGGUGAAUAAUGAAAGGGCCUAUUCACCUUGACUUGAGCUUCCCUGGAAAGAUGUGGAGCCUUGAAUCAUAGAGUAAGACUCUUUGUCCUUUAUGGAAUUCUUUAUUGGAGAUUAAUUGAUCAUGCCACCUCUUCAUCCUCUGUUUUGCAACUUUGGAAUUGAUGUAAGCAUCAUUUCUUAAUUCCUCCAUCUCAUUAAGGUCUAAGCACCUAUUUGCCCCGGUUCUGAUCAAGUCCAUGUUUAACUUCUUGAUUGCCCACCAAGCUUUAUAUUCAACUUCCACAGGGAGAUGGCAUGCUUUGCCAUAGACUAGGCGAUAAGGAGACAUACCAAGAAUAGUCUUGUAAGCUGUUCUAUAUGCCCAUAGUGAAUCAUGAAGCUUAAUAGACCAAUCUCUUCUACUUGUGAUCACCACCUUCAUCAAUAUAUUUUUGAUUUCCCUGUUUGCUAGCUCCACUUGAUCGGAUGUCUGAGGGUGAUAAGGUGUAGCUACCUUAUGCUUCACUCCAUACUUGGCUAAUAAGGCUUCAAAAGGUCUAUUGCAAAAAUGAGUACCUCCAUCACUGAUUAUGGCCUUGGGCACCCCAAAUCUUGAAAAAAUGUUCUCUUUGAGAAACUUGAGAACCACCUUGUGAUCAUUAUGUUUACAGGGGAUUGCCUCAACCCAUUUAGAAACAUAGUCCACCCCCACCAAGAUAUAAGAGUUACCAAAAAACAUUGGGAAAUGGCCCAUGAAAUCAAUGCCCCAAACAUCAAAGAGAUCAACUAUUAGAAUGGGGUUCAUAGGCAUUUGAUUCCUUCUUGUUAGCUUUCCAAGCCUUUGGCAUCUAUCACAGCUCCUACACAUGAUGUGGGCAUAUUUGAAAAGUGAUGGCCAAGUAAACCCUGAUUGCAACACCUUCAUGGUUGUUUUCUGAGAGGCAAAGUGGGCUCCACAUGCACUUUCAUAACAAUGGCUGAGGAUUCCUUGUUGCUCUUCUUCAGGAACACACUUCCGUAUUAUUUGAUCUACACAAUACUUGAAAAGGAAAGGCUCCUCCCAAUAAUAAGCAUGAAUCUUUGCAAAGAAGUGCUUCUUGUCUUGUGCUUUCCACUCACUUGGAACAUCACCAGUAACUAGAUAGUUAGCAAUAUGAGUAUACCAAGGAGUUUUUACUAGCAACAUGAGUGAUUCCUCAGGAAAAUCAUCAUUAAUAGGUAAGACAUGGGAAUUGUGUGCUAUAGCCAACCUUGAAAGGUGGUCAGCUACCACAUUUUCCACUCCUUUCUUGUCUCUGAUCUGGAGAUCGAACUCUUGUAGUAAGAGAAUCCAUCUAAUCAACCUUGCUUUAGCAUCUUGUUUUGUCAAUAAAUACUUCAAGGCUGAAUGGUCAAUGAAAACAAUGAUGAAAGACCCUACUAGAUAAGCACGAAACUUGUCUAAGGCAAACACCAUGACUAAAAAUUCUUUCUCUGUAGUUGUGUAGUUUCUUUGAGCUUCGUUCAAGGUUUUGCUUGCAUAGUAGAUCACAUAGGGCUUCCCAUCUUCUCUUUGGCCAAGCACAGCUCCUAUAGCAAAGUCACUGGCAUCACACAUUAUUUCAAAGGGUAGUUGCCAGUUAGGAGCCCUCACUAUUGGAGUUGUUGUUAAGAAUUGCUUCAGUUGAUCAAAGCUCUUUUGACAUCUUUCAUCCCAUAUAAAUUUAGCAUCCUUAGUCAAAAUUUCACAAAGAGGUUUUGAAAGAUUAGAGAAAUCUUUUAUAAAUCUCCUAUAGAACCCUGCAUGGCCAAGGAAUUGCCUCACUCCUUUUACAGUUGUUGGGGACAACAAUUUGAAAAUAAGUUCCACCUUUGCUUUAUCAACUUCAAUGCCUUUCUUGGAGAUGAUAUGGCCAAGGACAAUUCCCUGACGUACCAUAAAAUGGCAUUUCUCCCAGUUGAGCACCAAGUCCUUCUCAAUGCAUCUGUUAAGAACCGCUUCCAAAUUGACUAAGCAUUCUUCAAAUGUACCUCCAUAUACGGUGAUGUCAUCCAUGAAAACCUCCAUAAUUUGCUCCACCAUAUCACUGAAGAUACUCAAUAUACAUCUCUGGAAUGUUGUGGGUGCAUUGCAUAAACCAAAAGACAUUCUUCUGUAAGCAUAUGUUCCAAAUGGACAUGUGAAAGUGGUCUUCUCCUGAUCUUCAACAUCAAUUUCAAUUUGAAAAUAUCCGGAGUACACAUCUAAGAAACAAUAGAAAGGAUGGCUAGAGACUCUCUCCAAAACUUGAUCAAUAAAUGGCAAUGGAAAAUGAUCUUUCCUUGUCACAACAUUCAAUUUUCUAUAAUCAAUACACACCCUCCAACCUGAAGUGAGGCGUGUAGUAAUUUCUUCUCCUCUUUCAUUUUGAACCAUAGUAAUCCCUGACUUCUUUGGUACCACUUGAGUAGGACUCACCCAAGGGCUGUCAGAUAUGGGGUAGAUAAUACCUGCUUGAAGUAGCUUUAACACUUCCACUCGCACCACCUCUUGCAAAUGAGGAUUCAAUCUUCUUUAAGGUUGACGAAUUGGUUUGGAUUCUUCCUCCAUAUAUAUAUGAUGUGUACAAACCAAAGGACUAAUGCCUUUCAAGUCAGAUAUUUGCCAUCCUAUUGCUUUCUUGCACCUCUUGAGAACUUCAAGUAGACACUUUUCCUGAUGAUUAGUAAGAGAUGAAGAUAUAACAACAGGGCAUUGUUUAUUCUCUUCUAGGUAUGUAUAUUUCAACUUCAUGGGCAGAGGCUUCAAAUUAAGCUUUGGGGUUUCUUUUUUAUCAGCUUCUUGUGCCUCCUCUUUAUUGAACAAAGGUAGAAUCUCUUAUCUCCUUCUCCAACCUUGUAGAGUAGCUAGCACAUCAGAGGGUUUAGGCAACCCUUCUUCAAGAUCCCCAAGACUUUCAUUUAAUUUGUCUUGCAUAUUCUGAUUACAGUGCUCCUCCAUUAGAGUGUCAAUAAUGCAUACCUCCUCGAGACCUUCUUCUUUUUCUGGAGUGAUUUGCUUUUUAGACAUAUAAAAGAUAUUGAGCUCAAGUGUCAUGUUGCCAAAAGUGAGUUGCAUGAGUCCAUUCCUACAGUUAAUGAUUGCAUUUGACAUAGCAAGGAAUGACCUUCCAAGGAUGAUAGGAACUGAAUUUGCUUCCUUAACAGUAGGAUCUACUAGAUAGUAGAAAUUGUCAACUUGAACUAAGACAUCUUCAAUUACCCCCCUUGGAAUUUUCACUGAUCUAUCUGCUAGAGAUAGAGUGAUUGAUGUUGGCUUCAAUUCACCAAGUCCCAAUUGCUUGUAGACAGAGUAUGGAAGCAAAUUCACACUUGCUCCCAAGUCUAACAAAGCUUUCUCCACUACCUUUCCUCCAAUCAUGACGGGAAUGGUAGGACAACCCGGAUCUUUGUACUUCAAAGGAGACUUGCAUUGUAUAAUAGCACUUACUUGCUUAGUCAAGAAGGUUUUCUUGUUCACAUUCAACCCUCUUUUGAUAGUACACAAAUCCUUUAGGAAUUUUGCAUAUGUUGGAACUUGUUUAAUCAUAUCUAGCAAUGGAAUAUUGACUUUCACUUGUCUCAAUACUUCAAGAAUUUCUGAUGCAUUUCUAAUCCCCUUUUUCCCAUGUAAAGCUUGAGGAAAAGGUGGAGAGGUGUGCUUCUUCAGCAUUUCUUCCUUAAGAAGUAUCUUCUCCGGAUUUGUAUUCACUGUUGAAUCAUGGUCCUCUUUCUUUUCACUGAUAUCUUUCUUCUUUCCUUUGAUCUCCUCCCUCUUCUUUGUCUCUUCUUCUUCUACCUCUUCAUUGUCUCUUCUUCUUCUACCUCUUCAUGUGGCUUGGGUGUUGGCAUCUCAACCUUUUUACCACUCCUUAGAGUGAUCAAAGCUUUAACAUCUCUCACCUGUGAGGAUUCUCCCUCAUGAGUUUCCACUUCAUGGAUACCCUUGGGGUUUUGGUGAGGUUGAGAAGGAAAUCUACCCUUCUCUUGCAUUGUGUUCAAGUUAGUGAGCCUUGAGAUUGAGUAUUGGAGAUUAUCUAUCUUUUGAGAUAAGUCAUUUUGCAUCCCAUCCAUCAUUUUAUUCAAAGUAUUCUUUACACUGUCAAUUCUUUGACUGAGUUGAGCAUUGAUGGCUUUUUGAUCUCUAACAAAAUCUCCCACAACCUUGCUGAGAUUUACAAUUGCUUGUUCAAGACUUGAAGAUUGUUGAGAUGGUUGAGCCGAUUGUUGGUACUGAGGUGCUCUUGACUUCCAUGAGAAAUUUGGAUGAUUCCUCCAACUUGAGUUGUAAGUAUUUCCAUACGGAGCAUUGUUAUUGGGCUUAAAUUGUCCAACAACGUUUGCUUGAUCUCCAAACAUUUCCCUUGCAACUAGAAUUGUAGGGCAUUCCUCCACCAAGUGUUCAUAAGAUUGACAAUAGGACAUGGCUUUACUUGCACUGGUGAUUCAGCAUCAGCUUGCACUUCACACAUCUUUUUUAGUUCUGGCUCCUCCAAUCUUCUUGUCAUAGCCGCAACCUUUGCUUUCAUAUCAUCAUCUUCAUUCAAGGUAUACAUCCCAGCCUUAGCAUUAAAAGCACUCGGUUGAGACUUCAUCUUUCCCACUUCUCCUUUGUUUGGUUCAUCCCAUCCCCUUGAAACUUCAGCCACAUAAUUCAAGAAAUCCAUCACUUCCUCCAGAUUUUUGCUCAUGAAAUCUCCUCCACACAUUGUCUCGAGGAGUUGCUUCAUUGAGGAAGACAUCCCAUCAUAGAAAUAGCUCACCAAUAGCCAUGUAUCAAAACCAUGAUGAGGGCAAGCAUUGAUGGCUUCCAUGUAUCUUUCCCAACACUCAUAGAAUUUCUCAUUCUUUUUAGUUGAGAAGUUUGAAAUUUGCCUUUUCAAGCCAUUUGUUCUGUGAGUAGGAAAAAAUUUCUUAAGGAAUUCAGCUUGUAAAUCAGUCCAAGUAUGGAUACUAUUUGGCCUUAAAGAAUUAAGCUAAAUUUUGGCUUUAUCCUUUAAAGUAAAAGGAAAUAGCUUAAGCCUCAUUAAGUUAAUUGAAGCUCCUCCCUCUUGGAAUGUAUUACAAACAUCUUCAAAUUCCUUGAUAUGUGCAUAGGGAUUCUCACUUUCCAUCCCAUGGAAAGUUGGUAGAAAUGGAACAAUAUGCGGUCUGAUCACUAGCUGCUCUGUAGGGGGCAUUAUACAUGAUGGUGCACUCAUAUGAGGUGGAUGCAUGCGGUCCCUCAUUGAUCUGAAAGCAUUGGGAUUGUCCUGGUGACCAUGGUGACUAUGCUGAUCUUCAGGUGUAGCUUCCAUGAUAUUCAAGCUCAAUUCCAAUUCCUUGUUAUGAGGUGUAUCACGUUUAACAAGCCUUCCUCCACUGUCUCGUAUCCAAUUUGGCAUACACAACUAGUAUCAACUGUAACUAUAAAAAAAACAAAAGAAAACAAGACUACAAAAAGACUAAAAUAAAGUAAAUCUGAAUUAAAAGAUGUAUUCAAAUAUGAACAAGUAAAGAAAUAAUAAAAAAAAAUAGUAAGAUGAAAGAAAAGUUACCAAACUUGUGAUGAAAAUCACAAGUACUCUAAAAUAGUAUCACUGUGAAAUUGGCACCUUCCCCGGCAACGACGCCAUUUGAUUUCGUGCCCAGCUGGUAUACCUUGAUUUUGGUCCUCUGAUGGGAGUAAUCAACAAAAUUUAUAACCUAUUACACCAUGUACUAGGAUAGCCUCGGCUAGCAUAUCAUAGUAGCUCUAGGAUCGUUCACUAGGAAGGGUUUUCAAUUAUAAAUGAUACCAAUUCAAAGUGAAUUGGUGCCUUUUCAUUUCAAGGUUAGCUUUAAAAGAAAACAUAAACUUGGGUUGGAAAAGGUUUGGUUUUAAGCUAAUUAAAAAGAAAGUAAUGGGAAUUACUUAUAAAGAAAAGCGUUUCUUGGAGUUUUAGGAUCACCAGGGUUAGGCUCCUUAUACAAAAACAGAGUUUUGGUCACUUUGAUUCUUUUCCUCGCAUUGGAGAAUUAACAUAUAGUUCAUUCUCCAACCGGUGUUGUACAGAUGCAGCCCAUUUAUGGAUUUUAGCAUUAAAUCCCUCUCACUGAUGCAUCUCGCAAUGGCUCAUGCCUCUCACCUAGCAUUUUCCAUUCAAGGUGAUCAUUAACCUUGGACUUCCCUUCUCAAGCUCACAAGAGGUAACUAAUGGAUGUCUCCUUAGAGUCUAAAAGCUUACCAAGUGUUGGCAAUUCUAGAAAAUCCUACCUUCAAGUCACCUCCCAAAGGCUCGCAAGAGAUAAACUAGUGAAUCUCCAUGGACGGAGAUCACUUGCCUUACCAAGUGUUGGCCCAUGUGAAUUGAAGGCGUUUUAAGUUAACUAAAAAGAUAAAAACCAUUAACGGGUUACACUUCCUCUUCAUUUACAGCUGAAACCACAAAACUCUAAAUUCGUGCAUUUGGAAACUUACCCGGCUACCUUAGCUCCAAGAGACACAAAGUCUAGCCACUCAUUCUCUGAGGAAACAUCCUCAGAGCUUGUUUGGCUAGUAAGAAAAAUACAAUCAAAAUGAGAAGGUAAGGCAGAGCAAAGCUCUGCAUUUUACUUCCUUGAAAAACUAUACAAAAAGUUGGUUUUUCUCUGAGAACAGGCUCUCAAGAUAUCAUUGAUAUGAAAAUUACAAGAAUAAUAUAUACAUGGUUAUUCACCCUUUUUGUCUUUCUUAGCAACUAAGGAAUCCUAUAAUUGGUGAGUUACAAGGAGAAAAUGGGGAUUUAGAUAUCAAAUAUCUGAAGCAAAAUAUCCAAAAGUGUUCGCAAAUAUCUGGAAGCACUCAGGAGAAUUUCACAGACGUACAAGAUGGCUGUGAAAUUUCGCAGCCAAAGGCUGAUUUCGCAGAGGCUUUCCUUAGGCUGCGAAAUUGGCCUUCAGCUUGGUGUGAUCAGCUUCCAAUGGCUCUAACUUCUUCAUUUCAACUCCGAUUCAUGUACUGUUUGAAGCGUUGGAUUGCUAACUUCCAGAGCUUCGAAACGACAUAUGGUAUGCAUCAAAUAGGCUCUGGAAAGUGCUUCAAAAGUGUCAAACAGUUGAUGUCCUCUUGCAUUCUUCAUGUUACUUUCAUCCUUGCAUUCUUGAUUUGUUUUUGGCAAAGGACUACAAAGCUUCAAAGCUUGAAUUCUUCAUGUUAAUGAGCUUCCAAUUGCUUUGCCAUGGAUUCCAUGGAACUCUCCUUAGUCUUGGAUUGCUUUGGUGAUCAAAAUACUAUCAAAAGCACCAAAACUUACACAAUUUGAUUAGAAAUGAUUGCAAAGGUACUUAAUAUGUUAAUUGAGUUAAAAGGUAAUAACUACUACUCAAAAGUGUUUAAAAGAGUUAAUUACAAGCUAUCAAUUAGUACUUUUUGAGUAGUAAUCAAGGGUCCACCUAAUCAGUCUUGCCUUGGCAUCUUGCUUGGUCAACAAAUACUUCAAAGCAGAGUGAUUGGUUAAUACCACUAUGAAAGACCCCACCAUGUAAGCACGAAAUUUGUCCAAGGCAAAAACUACCGCUAACAAUUCCUUCUCGGUGGUUGUGUAGUUUCUUUGCACCUCAUUGAGUGUCUUACUGGCAUAAUAGAUCAUAUAGGGUUUUCUAUCUUCUCUUUGGCCCAACACAGCUCCAAUAGCAAAAUCACUAGCAUCGCACAUUACCUCAAAAGGUAAUUGCUAGUUAGGAGCUUGCACAAUGGGUGUUGUUGUUAGAAAUGACUUUAAUUGCUAAAAAAUUCUUUGAAAUCUUUCAUCCCAUAUGAAUUUGGCAUCCUUGACCAAUAGUUCACAAAGAGGACUUGCAAGCUUUGAAAAGUCCUUGAUAAACCUCCUAUAGAACCCGACAUGUCCAAGGAAUUGCCUUACUCCCUUGACAUUGGUGAGGGAUGGCAACUUGACAAUGAGUUCAACUUUUGCUUUAUCAACUUCAAUUCCCUCCUUAUAGAUGAUAUGCUCGAGAACAAUCCCUUGUUGUACCAUGAAAUGGCACUUCUCCCAGUUAAGCACCGAGUCUUUUUCAAUGCACCGAUUUAGAACAACUUCUAAGUUUACCAAGCAAUCCUCAAAUGCACUUCCAUAAACGGUGAUAUCGUCCAUAAAGACUUCCAAAAUUCGCUCCACCAUAUCACUAAAGAUGCUUAGCAUGCAUCUUUGGAAAGUUGUGGGUGCAUUGCAUAAACCAAAAGGCAUUCUCCUAUAUACAAAUGUACUAAAGGGGCAUGUGAAAGUGGUCUUCUGUUGAUCUUCCAAAUCAAUCUCUAUUUGAAAGUAGCCAGAGUGGCCAUCCAAAAAACAGUAGAAAGGAUGCCCAGAAACCCUUUCAAGCACUUGGUCAAUAAAAGGCAACGGGAAAUGGUCCUUCCUUGUCACCGCAUUCAAUUUCCUGUAAUUGAUACACACCCUCCAACCAAUAGUAAGGCGUGUGGAGACAUCUUCUCCCAUAUCAUUCCGCACCACCGUGAUCCCAGACUUCUUUGGGACAACCUGGGUUGGACUCACCCAUAAGCUAUCUGAUAUGGGAUAAAUAAUACCGGCUUGAAGUAGCUUCAAAACUUCAUCUCGCACCACCUCUUGCAUGUGAGGGUUCAACCUUCUCUACAGUUGGCGAAUUGGCUUUGCUUCCUCCUCCAUAUAGAUAUGAUGGGUGCACACCAAAGGGUUGAUCCCUUUCAAGUCUGAAAUUUUCCACCCAAUGGCCUUCUUACAUCUUCUAAGGACUUCAAUUAGACAAUCCUCUUGAUGAAUGGUGAGAGCUGAAGAGAUCACCAUAGGGCACUGCUUGUCUUCCUCCAAGUACGCGUAUUUCAACCCAGUAGGAAGAAGCUUAAGAGUAAGCUUUGAGGGCUCCUCCUUACCAACUUUGUGCGACUCCUCAUCAUUGAAUAAAGGUAGAAUCUUUUCCCUCUUCCUCUAAUGAGACAUGGUAGUUAGCAAAUCUGAGGGUUCAGGUAACCCUUCAUCAAGAUCCCUAAGACUCUCAAUCAAAUGUUCCUCCAUGCUCUGUUCACAAUGCUCCUUAACCAAAGUGUCAAUCAUGCACACUUCCUCUGACCUUUCCUCUUCUACCGGAUGGAGAUGCUUCUUGCACAAAUGGAAGAUGUUUAGCUCCAAGGUCAUGUUGCCAAACGUGAGUUGCAUAAUUCCAUUCCUACAAUUGAUGAUUGCAUUAGAUGUAGUGAGGAAUGGUCUUCCAAGUAUGAUUGGCACAUAGUUUUUCCUCGUGACAACUGGAUCAGUAUCAAGAACAACAAAAUCUACUGGAUAGUAGAAUUUGUCAACUUGUACUAAGACAUCCUCAAUUAUCCCCCUUGGGAUCUUCACUGAUCUAUUAGCUAGGGAGAGAGUAAUGGAUGUAGGCUUCAACCCCCCAAGUCCCAACUACUUGUAAACCGAAUAGGGUAGCAAAUUCACACUUGCUCCCAAGUCUAGAAGAGCUUUCUCCACACAUGUCCCUCUAAUAUUUACUGAAAUGGUGGGGCAUCCUGGAUCUUUAUACUUCACUGGAGAUUUGUACUGGAUGAUAACACUUACUUGUUCAGUUAAGAAGGUUUUCUUGGUCACAUUUAACCCUCUCUUUACAAUGCACAAGUCCUUCAAGAAUUCGGCAUAAGUUGGAACUUGCUUGAUCAUGUCAAGUAAAGGAAUGUUGACCUUCAGUUACCUCAACACUUCAAAAUUUUAUGAUGUAUUCUUGGUUCCCUUCUUACCAUACAAAGCUUGAGGGAAAGGUGGAGGCAUGUGCUUCUUCAUCAUAUCUUCCUUGAUGACUAUCCUUGGUUCUUCAUCCACACUUGAAUCAUGGUCACCUUCAUCUGACUUCUUCUCACCCAUGUUUUUCUCUGAUUCACUUCCUUCACCAUGCUUCAGCUUGGGUGGGGGUUGAACAACCUCCUUACCACUCCUAAGAGUGAUAACUACUUUGACUUCCCUCACCUUUGAAGAUUCUCCCUCUUAAGCUUCUACUUCAUGAAUACCCUUUGGAUUUUGACGAGGUUGAGAAGGAAACUUUCCUUUCUCUUACACAGUAUUGAGGUUGGUGAGCCUUGAGAUGGAAUAUUGAACAUUAUCUAUCUUCUGAGAUAGAUCAUUUUGCAUCACAUCCAUCCUCUUAUUCAAUGUACUCUCCAUUCUAUCAAUUUUCUGAUUCAAUUGAGAGUUGAUUGACUUUUGCUCCCCCACAAAGUCUCCCACAACCUUGCUAAGAUUCACAAUGGCUUGUUCAAGGUUUGAAGCUUGUUGAGGUGCUUGAGCUGGUGGUGUAUACUGAGGUGGCCUUGGCUUCCAUGAGAAAUUUGAAUGGUUCCUCCAAUUAGAAUUGUAGAUGCUUCCAUAAGGAGCAUAGUUGUUAGGCUUGAAUUGGACAACCACAUUUGCUUGAUCACCAAACAUUUCUCUCACUGUUGGAAUGGUUGGGCACUUCUCCACCAAGUGCUCAUAAGACUGACAUAUGGAACAAGGUGUAGCUUGCACUCGUGUCUCGGAAAUGACCUGUACUUCUUGUACUUUCUUCAGUUCUAGCUCUUCCAAUCUCCUUCCCAUAGUUGCAAAUUUUGUUUUCAUGUCCAUGUCUUCACUCAACACAUACAUUCCACCCUUAGCAUUGGAAUGAGACUUCAUCCUCCCCACAUCUCUAGUAUUCGGUUCAUCCCAUCCUCUUGAAACUUCAGAAACAUAGCUCAAGAGUCCAUAGCUUCCUCCGGAUUCUUACUCAUGAAGUCUCCUCCACACAUGGUCUCUAGGAGUUGCUUCAUACAGGAAGACAUACCAUCAUAGAAAUAACUCACUAAGAGCCAUGUAUCAAAGCCAUGGUGAGGAAAAGCGUUGAUAGUUUCCAUGUACCUCUCCCAACACUCAUAGAAUUUCUCAUUCUCCUUAGCUAAGAAGUUUGAAAUUUGCCUUUUCAAGCCAUUGGUCCUAUGAGUAGGGAAGAACUUCUUGAGAAACUCAGCUUGUAAAUCAGUCCACCUUCUGAUACUCCUCGACCUUAAAGAAUUAAGCUAAACCUUGGCCUUAUCCUUUAAGGUGAAAGGGAAUAGCUUGAGUCUCAUCAAGUCAAUUGCAGUUCCUCCUUCUUGGAAUGUAUUGCACACGUCUUCAAACUCCUUGAUGUGAGAAUAGGGGUUCUCACUUUCCAUCCCAUGGAAAGUAGGUAGAAGUGGCACUAUAUGAGGUCGGAUCACUAGCUGCUCAAUGGGAGGCACUAUGAAUGAAGGUGCACUCAUCCGAGGUGGAUGCAUGCGGUCCCUCAUGGAUUUUGAGAUUCUCCUCUUGCUCAUGUUGGCUAUGUUGAUCUUCAGGUGGACAAUCCAUGAUGUUCAAGUAGACUUCAAACUCGGUUUCUUGAGGAGCUUCAAUUUUCACAAGUCUUUCCUCAAUAUCUCUUAUCCAAUGGGGCAUACACAACUCAUGAUUUCUGAAAUAAAAACAAAGAAAACCAAAGGACUACAUUUCUAGGAAAAGAUUUAAGGUUAGAUAAAAACUAAAUGAAAGAUAAAAUAAAAUAAAAACAAAGAAAACGAGUUAGUGAAAGAAAAAUCACUAACUUGUGAUGAAGAUCACAAGUACUCAUAAAAGGUAACAUUUAUGUACUUAGGUACCAUCCCCGACAGCGGUGCCAUUUAAUUCAUGCCCAGCCGGGUGUUUAUCAAAACAUUUAUAAAACCUACAACACCUUAUACUAGGGUAGCAAAGACAAAGCUACUAUAGUAUAGUGGCUCUAGGAUCGUCCACAGGAAUGGGUUUUCUUUGUACACUUAACAUUAAUGAAAGGAGAAACAGUGAUUUCCUUUUUGGAAGUUAGCUUUUAAAUGAAAAUAAGAUUGAUUGGAAGGGUUGAUUUUAAGUUAAGCAAACAUAAACAACUGAAAUUACUAUAAAGAGAAAGUCUCUUGGAGCUAUAGGUUACUAGGAUCAGGUUCCUGUUGCAAAGUGGGAAAUUACAAAUCUUCUCCUCGCAUUGGGGAUAAUAACAUAAAGGAUGGUUAUCUCCCGAACCGGAUUUGUAUUUAGCAAAUAAGUUUUGAUCGAAAGGAUUCUUGAAAAAUGGUAGUUGCUUCCCAUUAAUGGCUUCAAACACUAAAGACCCUCACCUUGAACCACCUUCUAAUGGCUCAUACUUGAUAACUAAUAGACAUCCAUGGAUUUAGCAAUAAGCAUCCAUAGAAUCCUAAAAGCUUACCAAGUAUUGGCCAUUCAAGGUGAUUCUAAGGGAUUAAAGCUGAAACUUGAAAUACAAACCAUUAAUGAUACACAACUACCUUCAUUUUUAGCAAGGAAAACUCCAACCUUUUCAUCUAGGUCCUUUACCUAGCUUCCAUAACUCCAAAAAAUGUGAAAAUUAGCCACUCAUCCUUUGAGAAAUCAUCCUCAGAGGGUGUUUGGCUAGAGAGAAAGUGAAGAGAAAAUGAGAAGAAAAGGCAGAGAAAAACUCGUCUUUACAAAAUCUCUCAUCCUUUGAGAGGUUUUCCAACCCCUAUUUAUAGUUCCUAAACAAACCCUAAUGUCAUUUAUCUAUUACAAAAGGAGUAAAAAGGAAAAAAUUACAAUUCUGGAGAUUUUUCCCAAAGGUCGAUGCGCAUAAAGUGAUUUUUGCACACCCUGCAAAAAUUUGGCACACCUUGCCAAAUUUUGGCACACCUUGCGAAUUUUGGCACACCUUGCAAAUUUGAUGAUUUUGCCUUGCGAAAUGCUCUAUUUCUCUCCAUCUUACUACUAAUAGCUUUGCCAGCCCCUUUCCAAGUUUGGCAAGGGGUUUUGAAGUGCUCCAAGGCUCGGAUUCUUCAUGUGAUUGAUCUUCAACUUGCCUUGCCAUAGCUUGCACAAAACUCUCCCUCAAUCUUGGCCGGUUUCGGUGAUAAAAAAGCUACCAAAAACACUAAAACUUACCAAAAAUUGGUUAGUAACAUUCUCUAGGUCCUUACAUGCCAAUUGGGAUAAAAAGGUCUAACUACUACUCAAAAGUGCUUAGUACAAUUAAGUUUAAGCUUAUAAAAAUGCACUUUUUGAGUAGUAAUCAUAUAGUCUUUUCCUAUUCUUUGAGGGUUGUUCCAAGAUUAAAUAUGCUCAGUUUCAUAAUUGAAAGGACUUUUUCAUAUUGCUAAGAAAAAAACUUGUGAGAUUGAUUUUUCUAUCAAAAUUCUUAUCUCUAAAGUGGAUUCAUUUGAGUGGUGAGCUUAAUUCUAAGUUCUUAUCUUUAAGGUGAUGAAUUUCUUAUCCUUAAAGUGGUGAACUUGUGUUAUUAACUUAUCAUUUUAUUUCCUUAAAACGUUAUCAUUUUGUGUCGAAAAAAGUAGUUACAGGCUCCCUUCAAGUUUCUCAUGUAUCAACCCGUAAUCAACUUGUGGAUAUACUCAACAAACCAUUGCCCAAGUCCUGCUUUACAUUCUUUCAGUCCAAGAUUGGCAUUUUUUUUAUGGAAGCCCCAUCUUGCAAGGGCAUAUUAGGAGAGAACCAAUCUCACCCACAAAUUAAGAGCACUCAAUGGUGAAGUAUUAAGUUUAGGAGUAACAGAUGUAUACCUUGUAUAGCUGUUGUAUCUUUUGGAAAGUCUAAUACAAAAGAUUAAUCUUCAAACUCUAAUAAGAGAAUUUGAAAUUUUGAGUGUGAAAAAAGAAAUCGAAAUAAAUCUCUAAUUAUUUUUCUAGAGUAUUAGCUGUUGUGAGUUUACAAUAAAAAUACGUCAAAAGUUUGAAUGAUAGCCAUGUGGUAAAAAAAUAUGUUCAAUCUUUAGAUUCCAAAUAAGUUUAACUAUAUUGUUGUUGUCAUUGAAGAAUAUAAACAUUUAGAUUCUAUGACCAUUGAUCAACUCAUGAGAUCACUACAAGCUCAUAAAGAGAUUAAAAAUAAAUAACUAAGAAAAAUUACAACUUUUUUAAACAGAUUAAACUUAUACUAAAGAAGAAUGAUGAAAACAUUAGUGAAAGAAGUCAAAACAAUCAUGAAUAUGUCAAAGACAUGGUCAUAGCCAUGGCUAAGACAAUAGAGGAAGAGGUAGGUUUAAUUUAUCAAACAAUUAAAUAACAAGUCAAAAUUCACAUUCCUUAGGAGGACAUGAAAGAUGACACAACUUAAGGCACAAUAAAAGAAGAGGAUAUGAUAAAUUUCAAAUUGAAUGUUAUAAUUAUAAAAAAUAUGGUCAUGAUGCUUAUGAAUAUAGAAAUGCUACAAACAAUAUGAAAAGACACAUCAAAGGAGUUGCCACCUAGGACCAAACUUCCUACUGAUCAAGUCUCAUAUCGAAUAUCACUUUUGAAGUUACUAGAGCUAAGGAGGUAAUUGAAGAAACUAUUGGAUGCACGCAUGAUCCAAUCUUUAAGGGUUUGUUACGAUGCUCCUAUCUUAUUCCAAAUAGAUGUGUGUUAACUAUUGGGCCUUGAACAAAGUAACGAUCAAGAAUAAGUAUCCAAUCUCCUUAGUGGAAGAAUUAAUUAAUAAACUGGCCAAGGCAAAGUUUUUCUCCAAAUUGGACUAGUGGUUAAGAUACUAGCAAGUAAGGAUUGUAGAGGGGGACAAAAAAAAAAAAAAAAGACUACAUGUGUAACCCACUAUGGGCCAUAUGAGUUCCUCAUGAUGCCAUUUAGACUAACUAACGCCUCAAUAACAUUCUACAACCUAAUGAAUGAUUUUCCAUACAAGUUCUUAGAUGCCUUUGUUGUUGUUUACUUUAAUGCAUUGUUGUCUAUAGCAAGACCUUAGAAGAGCAUGUGAAUCACUUGAGAUUACUAUUUCAAAGACUAAGAGCACACGAACUCUACUUGAAGAUGGAGAAGUGUGAGUUCACACAAAGUCAUAUUACCUAUCUAAGACAUAAGAUAGAUGAAGGGUUUAUCAAGAUGGAUGUUCAAACCAUUAAAGAUUGGCAUGCUCUAAGCAAGGUGACACUACCUGACUAUUAUUGAAUGUACAUAAGGGGCUACUUCAAGAUAGUGGCUCCCUUUGCUAACCUUUUAAAGAAGGAUAUUUGGGAUUGGAGUUUUGAAUGCUAGAAAGCUUUUGAGAAGUUGAAAGUAGUGAUUUGAGUUAAGUUGGUGUUGCAAUUACUAGAUUUGGAUCUCCUAUUUGAGACUCAAACAGAUGCAUUAGCUAGGGCCUUAGGGGGGAUCUUGGUGAAGGAAGGGCACCCACUAGCCUUUGAGAGUUGAAAACUUAAUGAGUUAGAACAAAGAUACUCUACUCACGAGAAAGAGAUGACAAUGAUUAUUCAUUGCUUAUAAUAGUGGAAGCAUUAUCUGUUGGGGAGUAUAUUUACUAUAUAUGGUCACAGGCAACAUAGUUAAUACAUUUUUCAAGAUGCAAAUGGAGUUGAGCCAUAAGCAAGCUAGGUGGCAAGAAUUCUUAGCCAACUUCAAGUCUGAAUGGUUGUAUUGACCAAGAAGACAUACUGUAGUUAUAAAUGCCUUAAACCAAAAGGAAUUGACAGAGUAUGUGAUCGCUCUAUCACAUGUAAUCUCAUAUUUUAAUGAAAAUAUCAAACAAGCUACUAAGAUUGAUUCUACUUAUGAGAAGAUGAAACAACAAGUCAAAGAGGGGGCUACUAAAAAAUAUUGGGUAGAAGAUGACCUCUUAGUGGCUAAAAGAGGUAGGCUAUAUGUACCAAGAAGUUGCUUACACAAGGAGUUGCUAAGAGAGACCUAUGAUGUUGAGUAGCAAAGAGAUGACAUCAAUAGUAUUGUCCAACUACUGUUACUAGCUAAAAAUAGGAGAGAACAUCUAGGCUUAUGUUCAAUAUUGUUUGAUAUGUCAAUUGGGUAAGACAAGCAAGAAGAAAGCUAUAAGGUUACUACAACCUCUCCCUAUCCAAAAGAGACCUAUUUGUGGACUUCAUCGGUGGCUUUCCAAAAGUGAACGAAUUCAAGUAUAUCUUCAUGAUAGUAGAUAGACUCUCUAAGUAUGUUGCUUUCAUACUUACACCACAUGCAUGUCCCGUAGAAGAGGUUGUUAGGCUAUUCCUCAACCAUGUGGUCAAGUACUUCAAGUUGCCUAAAGACAUAGUCAGUGAUUUCGAUGCUCAAUUCAUUGGUGAUUCGUGCCAAGAUGGUGUACCUUGAUUUUGGUCCUCUGAUGGGAGUAAUCAACAAAAUUUAUAACCUAUUACACCAUGUACUAGGAUAGCCUUAGCUAGCAUAGCAUAGUAGCUCUAAGAUCGUUCACUGGGAUGGGUUUUCACUUCACAAUCGAUAUUAAUUCAAAGUUGAAUUGGUGUUUCUUCAUUUCAAGGUUAACUUUAAAAGAAAACAUAAAGAUGUUUGAAAAGGUUGGUUUUAAGCUAACAAAAAAUAGUAACUAAUUUUAAUUACAAAGAAAAGUGUUUCUUGGGGUUUCAGAUCACUAGGCUCAGGUUCCUUAUACAAAAAGGGAGUUCAGGUCACUUGAAUCUUUUCCUCACGUUGGGGAUUUAACAUAUAGUUAUUUCCCAAACCAGUAUGGUAUAGAUGCUUCUCCUUAAUGGGUUCAAACACUAAUUCCCUAUCACUGAAUCAUCUUGCAAUGGUUCAUACCUCUCACCUAGUAUUGGCCAUUCAAGGUGAUCUUUAACCUUGGAUUACCCGUCAAAAGCUUGCAAGAGAUAAGUAAUGGAUGUCUCCUUGGAGUCCAAAAGCUUACCAAGUGUUGGCUAUUCUAGAAAAUCCUACCUUUAAACCACCUCCCAAAGGCUCGCAAGAGAUAAACUAGUGUAUCUCAAUGGACGGAGACCACUUGCCUUACCAAGUGUUGGCCCAAGUGAUUUAAAGGCGUUUUAAGUUAACUAAAAACAUAGAAACCAUUAACGGGUCACACUUUCUCUUCAUUAAAAAUUGAAACAACAAAAACUUCCAAUUUUUGCAUUCGGAAACUUACCCGACUUUCUUCACUCCAAGAGACAAAAAGCCUAGGCACUCAUAUUAUGAGGAAACAUCCUCAGAGUUUGAUUUGCUAUAAAUAAAAAUGACGAGAAAACAAAAAUAUGAAGGAAAAACAGAGCAAGUGCUCUGUAAAAUAUAUUUCUUACUAUCGUCGAUUACAUAUCUGAUAUAUGAUAUAUGAUUUACAUUGGUUCAAAGAUAUAUAUAUAUAUAUAUAUAGAAGAUAUUUUCUAAGAAAUAUCCCAAUAAUAUCUUUGACUGAUUACAAAGAGAAAAUAGAAAUUUACAAAAUAUCUUGAAAAAAAUCUAACUUAGUCGGUGGCAAAUAUCUGAGUUUACACAAGUGGAUUUCGCAGCUGCGAAAUGGCCUUUGGGUUGCAAAAUUUUCGCACAACUUGAUGUAGUUGUCUUCAAACGGCCAUAACUUCUUCGUUUCAACUCCGAUUCGCACACCGUUUGAAGCGUUGGACUUCUAACUUCCCAAUAUUCGAAAAGAAAAGAAAUGGAAUCCAGGAAGUACUCGAAAUAUGUCCAACAGUUGUUGUCCUCUUGAAUUUCCUCAUGUUAGAUUUCUCUCAUUUUCCUCCUUGCAUUUUUUAUUGGCUUUGGCAAAGGACUACAAAGCUCCAAAGCUUGAAUUCUCCAUGUAAAUGAGCUUCCAUUUUCUUUGCCAUGGAUUAUAUAGAACCCUCCCUUAUCUUAGAUUGCUUUGGUGAUCAAAAAGCUAUUUGAUUAGAAGUGAUUGCAAGGGUCCUUAACAUGCCAAUUGAGUUAAAAGGUAAUAACUACUACUCAGAAGUUGGAGCUUUCUACAUUAACAAGAAUGGAUUUGGGAACAUCUAAAUAAUAUGUAUAACACUUUUCUCUAGAUCUAUGAAAUGUUUUUGUUUUUUAAAUACCAAAGUUUUCAACUAUGCUUAGAUCUAGAAAGCAUAAGAUAAUGUUACAUGCACCCUAAUAAUCCAAGGCCUAGGAAUAUAGCGAUCUAAGGUUUCCUAACAAAAUAACCCAAUAAGUAAGAAUGAUUUAUAGGAACUAAAAUUUCUUUCAAAAAGAAAAGAAGAUUAUUGGAGUAAAAUAGGUAUACAAGAGAGGAAAAAAUGCAAAAGAAGUAAAAAAAAUACAAAGCAACAUUGGCGCAAAGGAUUACAAGUAAGAAUAAUGCACCAACAAGACAAGGGUAUUUGCUCUCAUUGCUCUUUUAGUAACUAUAAGAUUAAUAAUCUCUUUGGUAGUUUAAAUUAGUUGAAAAUUUUCAAAUGAAUGUGAAAUCCAAUUUUUUGAAUUGACAUUUGGAAGAAGAAGUGUAUGUAGAAUAAACCAUAGUCGGUAUACAUAUAUGGGCAUGAGAAUAAAGUUCCAAAAUUGAAAAUAACCUUGUAUGUAAUAAAACAAACACUAAGAGCAUGGAAUAAUUGAAUUGACCAAUAUUUUCACGAUAAUAAUUUUGCUUGAUACCUUAAUGAACAUGCUCUCUACAUAAAAUUGAAAGAAAAAAGUGAUAUAUUACUUAUUUGUUUGGAUGUGAAUUGUUUGAUCUUUAUUGGAACUAAUCCAAUCAUGUUUAGUGAGUUCAAAAAAGUAAUAGGACAAAAGUUUGAGAUGAUUGGAUUAGUCUCUCUUGGCAUAGACUUGAAGCAGAUUGAAAAGAGUACUUUUUAUUUCUCAAGAAGACCAUGCAAAAUAAUUUUUUAGAAAGUUUAACUUGAAUAUGUGUAAUAUGGUAAACACAAUAAUAUAAUGCAAAGCUAAAUUAUCAAAGACAUGUAGAAGGAGAAAAAGUGGAUUCAACAUAACAUAAAAUCUUAGUUGGAACCAUACACUAUUUGACUCAUACAAGUUCAAACAUUCUCUUUGGAGUUGGAUUUAUCCAUCAUUAUAUGGAAGCACUAAUGAUUAUUUACACUAAGACCUCCUAGUGAAAUUUUCAUUUUUCACUACAUCAAUGACACAUUUGAUUAUGACUAAUAUUAUUCACCUUUAACAAUUUUAGACUUGUUGGAGAUAAUGAUAGUAAUUAAGGUGGAGACUUGGAUGAUACAAAGAGAACCAAUAGCUUUAUAUUCCUCAUGGGAGAGAUACCAUGUUCACUUGGACUUCAAAGAAGCAACCUAUUGUGAAACUUUCAACCUAUGAAGUGGAAUUUCUGAAAAUGUUUACAAAAUCUCAUAAUCAAAUUGUGAAAAUGUUUACAAAGAGUCUCAAGUUUAAUGAUUUUAGAAUGCAUGAGUGAAAAUGUUGACAAAGUUUAAAAUUUUUAGAAAACUAAGGAUGUUAUUUUUACUAACCAAGUUGAAGGGAGGAUGUUAGUUAAACUGGAUUUAGGAAGUUUCUAAAAAUUAGAAUUUGAGUUAGAUUCUAAAAUGCUUGAUUUAGUUUGUAUAUUUGUUAUUACAAGAUUUUAUAUUUUACCAUUAUGAGUAUCUAUUUUUUUUUAGGUGUUAAUACCUAUAAAUAAGAUGUUAUGUAAUAGUUGAACAAGAGUGGUGGAAGACAAUAAAUUUUUUCUUAAUCAUCUCAAUUAUUUAAAUAUCUCCCUUUACACAUGUAAUUACUUGUGUAUUUUUUUUCAACCAUAUUACUGCAACAUAUGUGAAUCUGUUGGUUGGUCUAUGAAAAUUUAUAUCAGUUGUUCAACCUUUUAAAUUUAUAUGUAACGGUAUUUAGAUCACAGGAUCUUUCCCUAAGCCCGCAUUUUUCUAAAUAUAUAAUUAAAAUUGUUGUGUUUGCAAUUUUAACGAAAUCUAGCGUUGGAUACUUAACUACAUCCCACAAAACGACAAAAAAAAUGGUGGCGAUUUCAUGGAGGCUAACCAUUCACUUGCCUUUAGCCAAGUCGUGUUUCAACAGUAAAGUAAUUAUCUCAAUCAAAACACAAAAUUUAGUUUUCUAAACAAUUAUUGUUCUUGGAAAACAUGCAAGGAACUUAAGCAACUUAAGUGCCAACAUCUGCUCUCUCUCUCUCCAGCAUGCAAUCGUAAGUGGUAGGCACCUCUUUUAUGCUUUAAAUUAAUUGAAUACUUGAUCUUAUUCCGUCAUUCUUUUGGGUCUAACCCAAAAAUACAUUUACCAUGCCUUCUUUUCAUGUCCUCAACUUACUCAAAAGCUCAUAAGUCCCAUUGGAUAUGAUGUACUAAGUUUCAGAUUUUUGAAGUAAAAUUAUCAACAUUGUCUAGCAUAUAUAGUAAUAGGUUAUACUCUUUUCAACAAUUUAAAUUGUUUUUGUUAAUAGAUUAUAUGGAUGUUUUAACACUCAAAGAAAUUGAAAUGAAGCCAAAUAUGCAAAAAAAAAAAAAAAAAAAUGGUUGUGACCAAUAGUUAUAUUUAUUCUCUUUAAUUUCUAUUAAUACUCAAAUUUUUAGGGAUAGAGCAUCAACAAUCCUUGUGAUGAGUUAAUAAUGUUGAGAAAAGUCAAUGACUACACAAUGUAGAUUAAAACCAAAUAUGUCAUCAAAGAAGACAUCAAUAAUAACCCCACACAAUGAUAUGUUGUAUAAUUCAUUACUUGUAUCAAACACAAAUUUCCUUCAAUGUGUGUAUAUGAAUAAAAGAGACUUCUUAGUUUAUAUUUGACAUACAUGCUAUAUAGGCCAUGCUAAUAGCAAUUGAUAACAAGAAUCUCAACACUGAAGUCCAUGUAGAAUCAGGUGUGCACCAUAUUGGGGUUACAUAGUUAGGAUAUUGAAAGAAGCAUGAGUAUAGGAUGGUGAAAGUUCAAAUGAGAAGUGUUAUAAGAUCAUUGCCAAAGCUAUUUUUGCCUCCAUCAUUGCAAAAUUUUGUCCAAUGCAUACCCGAGGACCCCAACCAAAUGGGAAAAAUGAAACUUGGUUUUUUGUUACCUUUAAAACUCCUUCUACAAACCUCUUUGGAUUAAACUCCUUUGCAUCAUCCCCCCAAAUUUCAUGAUCAUGGUGAACUAGGAUGGUGGGCAACACGACCUGCAAUCCAGUUGGAAAACACAUGUCUCCCACUUGAGUGUCCUUAUAAACAACUCUAGGAAGCAUUGCUAUUGGUGGGUAUAACCUAAGAACCUCAUGAAAAAUCAUGGUGACCUGUGGUAGAGAAACUUUAGAAGUUGUUGCAAGAGAAUUCUUACUAAAAUACAUUCUAAAUCAUUAUGAAGGACACUGAAGAAGAAAGCAAUUUCUUAAAAUAGUGAUGCAGAAGAGAAAAUGUUCUAAAUCAUGCAUGACAAAAUAUCAAGUAUGCAAAGGACAUUGCAUAUCCCAUGGAUAUAAUAACUUAAGAACCUCAUGAAAAAUCAUCAUAAUCUAGCAGAGAAAUUUGAAAUCAUGGCAUGAGAACCCGUUCCUAAGCUACUAAGUGAAAGCAAAUGUUUAGUAUAAGAUAUAAAAACUUAAGAGAAAUGUGUUUUCAAUUUUACUUCAAUUAUGGGGAAAAAAACCAGAGUACUAUACGAUUUUAGUGAGAAUCACUAAACUGAAGAUUGGACUAAGUACUCACAAUUUUUAGGUGAUUUAAUCCAUCAGCUUCCCAUUUUUUAUUCCCAAAAACCUGUAAAACCUCUUCUCUUGCACGAGCUUGCUAGUUUGGAUGCUCGCUUAGCAGGACCAUUGUCCAUACAAGCAAAACUGAGGUUGUCUUUUGGCCAGCAAGAUAGAAUAGUUUACACUCUUCAAUGACAUCCUUGACACUGAUUCUAAUCUUCUUGUUAUUUUGAUGUUCUUGAAUUUCUCUAAAAUUGGAUUCCAUUAGCAUACCUAAUAAGUCACUAUUAGUAGUUUCGCCAACCUUCAUUGCCUUCUCUCUUUUGUUAACGAUACCCCUCAACAAUGCAUAUACUUCUUUGCUUAUUUGCUUCAUCUUCCUGUUCGUCUUUGUGGGUAAAAACCUGUGCGCAUGUUAGUAAUUCUAGUAAAUAAAACAUCACAUGAAACACACAGACAUUAAUUCUUAUUUUCAUCCAUGCCUUCUACUUCUCCAUUAAUUUUUUGAAGCUUGUAUAAGGCUUCAAAGGUAGAAACUAUCAAGACAAUAACUAAUAGUUUCAUCUACACAUGUGUUGCAGUGGUAUCUCAUCAUCUUGAUACAAUAUCCUGUGAACAUAAGAUUGAGGAUACUAAACAUCAAUUAGUGAAACAUACUACUUUCUAAGUGUUAUACAAAAGAAGUAAUUGACUAAAAGGGGAUGAAAUGAUCUCAAAGUUGUAAAUCUAACAUCUCUUAUGCUUGACCUUGAAAAGUAAUCCAUUUUGAACAUAAAUUCCCUUCGAACAUAAAUUCCCUUCAACCUUGUUAACCAAACACACACUUGAGCAUUGUGAAACUUUCAACCUAUGAAGCGAAAUUUGUGUUGGCAUCAUUUGUAGGUCAUGAAAUUUGUUCAAGAAACUUAAUUUACCACACAAGAGACUGAUAAAGAUCUAUAUGGAUAUAAAAUCAACAAUUACCUUAUGAGAAAAAUCUAGUUCUCCAUGAUGGUGUUGAGUUUUGAAUUUUGCCUUAGUAUCUGCUGGAAUUUGAAUUUUGAAGUUAAAUUUUACAGCUGGAGUCUUGCACAAAAUCUGCAACAUCCAAAUAUUUUCUUGUUUUUAUUUGGUCAAGAUUUGGUUUCUAUUUUAUAGGAAGUAGUUGUUCAUCAUCUAGUAGCUUGAUUUUAUGCUAUUCUAAUGUUAUUUCAGUUACAAGCUCAUGUAUAAAUUCAGCACUCUUCAUCAAUAAAAUGUGUGUUCCAACAGUCUAAAAAUAUAUAUUCUGCAUAAGUGUUUUAAUUUAAGAUCAACAGAUGGAAGCCAACAAUGCAUUCCCUUACAAUUCAAAGUAUAUUCAAUUGAGCACCUUUCCUAUGAUUCAAAGGUUGCAUGCCCCCUCAACAAUUGAACCCAACAAGAGCACUCAAGUUGUGCAUGUCUGUAACAUCUUAAUUGCACUUUUCCCUACCACUAUAGUAGCAUAUCCCUUGGGUCACUCACCAUGCACUGUCACUCCCCAAAACCCACUCCAAGGGCAUGACGAUCUUUUCACGCCUCAACCCCAAGGGGUCAAAGUGGAAAUGACACAAACAUUCAUGUUGUAAUUGAAAAUUUACCAAUUACCAAAUUCCUAUUCAAGGUAGUAGGAUAAAAUUCUAAAAUCUCCAAGUAUCAACUUUAAAAAAAACUAAUACAUCAACCAAUGUGUUAUUGUCCAAAUAACUUCAAACUCAAAAUAAUUCAAACUAGAAUUAAGUUUUAACAUUUAAACAAUGUCCAAAAUAAAGAGAGUUUAAACAAAUAUCCUAAUAAAUCAAAAUUUCCUUCCUAACGGUCACUCCUCGCCCGAAUUGAGGUUGAUUGAAAGAUUAUCAACAAAGGGGGGUGAGCUCAAAGCCCAAUAAGGAACAUUAAUACAAUUUCAUGGAUCAAACAUUUUCAAUUAUGCUUGCAAAUAGAAGAUAUAACAUAUACUUAUUUUCACAAAAACUUUUGAGUUCAAAAUGCUAAUACAUUCAAACUUUUCAACAAAACUUUCUCAUAUCCAUUUCAAAACAAUUUCUCAUCAAACCAAAUCGAAUACAUUCAAAAUAUCUUUACUCCGGUUAUCAUAUGUCAAAUGGUACCCAAUUAGGAGGGACUUCACAAUUGAGUAACUAGUUUCAAAUUUGUUCCAUUUAAGGUGAACAAACCCAAAUGUCAACAAUCAUAACCCAUUGACUAAGGCCAUAAAGUCAACUAUUAUAACCGGUUGACUCGAGCCAUAAGGUCAAUUAUUAUAACCCGUUGACUAAGAUCAUAUAAUAUCAACUAUUAUAACCCGUUGACUAGGUAGGCCCGAAAAUGUCAACUAUUAUAACCCGUUGACUAGGGCCAUAUAAUCUAGAGUCAAAUACUUUAUUUCAUUAAUUCAAACUUAUAAAACAAAACAUCGUAUCUCCUCAAUUUUUCAUUUUUCAUAAACAAAGAAAAUACUCAAAUAUACUUUCCAUACAAAACAUAUAUUUGAUCCAUGCUUAAAUAUAAAAAUAAUAUUUUUACACAUUUCAAAAUACAAUAUAAAAAGAAAAUUAUUUUCUUUUACAAAAAUCUUGAAGUAUUUAACUUUGAAGGAAUUCCUCCUCACUCAACAUAAUAUCAUACACAAUAUUGAUUAUUGAUUAUUUAUCUAAAUGUAUAAAUUUGACAAUCCUAAAAAUAUUUUAUUUAGUAUUAGGGAUCCUAAUUAAUUUCUUAUGUUAAUAUUAUUUGCCAUCCAAUAUUAUUUUCAACUUCCUAAACAAUAAUUUAUUUCUCUUUUCUAACUUAUCUAAAUUAAAUAUUUUAAGAAUAUUUAUUUGCAUUAAACUAUUAUUACUAUUAUUUAAAUCUCCUAUUGAAACUUAACAAAUACCCCAUGCUAUUCUAUUUUUGUUCCCAACAACUCCACACCAACCUCAUUCAUUAUUAUUAUUAUUAUUAAUUUCAAUACCCAUCAACACCUUAAUCUAUUUCUCUUCCAAGCCAUCAACAUCCUUUUCUUUCUCAUUGUUUACCAAAAUACUAUUUACUUCCUUUCCUAGGUCAACGUGUUGGCCAUUUCUUUGUUUUUUUUUUUCUUUCAACAUGCCAAAUCCUUCCUACUUACACACAUCUUUCAUCAAAUUUUUUUUCUCCUCUCUAAAGUCAAAACUUUUAACCUCCAUACUCACAAAUUUUAUAUAAUUUUCACAUCCAAAACUAUAUAUAUAUAUAUAUAUAUAUAUAUAUAUAUAUAUAUAUAUAUAUUUGUCUAGAUCUAUUCGUUUGAGUAAUCAAAAUUUGUCGAUCUCCAUUAAUAAAUCAAACCAUGUUCAUAAAUUUUUAACAUUUUUUUAUCUAGAAAUUAAUUAAACGAACUCUAAUCAAAAUCGAGAUAUUCCAAAUAAUAUCUAAAGUGUUCAAAACUAAUUAAUGAAUAUAAAAUAUUAAUUUAAAGAUUAAAAAUCUUACUUGAAAAAUUGAUCUUCAAACCCUGAACCUCCAAAUCUUCAAUUGUAUGCUCUCUAAUCUUUAUGAUCUCUGUGUAAAAGGGUUUUCUGAAUAGAGAGGAUGGGAAAAAUCUAAUUUUUACCUAAGGGUUUUAAAUACCAAAAGACUUUUUUACCCUUAUUAAAUUACUUAAUUAAUUAUUAAUUUCUAAAUUAUGAUUUUACCCCUAAAUUGGGUUUGGGGCAUUACAUGCACACUAUUCCCACUCUUGCAAAGGUUGAGCUCUUGAGAAAACUUAUUACAAUUAUUUGGAUAGGAUUUUUUAGGUAGUUUCCUAUUUCUUUCUAUAUAUUUGCCUUAUUUUUGUAGGUUUCCUACAAUUAUAUAUAUAUAGGAUAUUUUCUCUUCUUUUCUCUAUGAACGAAUAUAUGACUAGGUAAAAUUAAGCUAUAGGUUUCUUAAUGGUAUCAAAGCCAACUUCUUAUUACUAGGAAUAAUGGUUAAAAUAGCAAUGAUAGGUGCUUCCAAUUAUGAUAACAACUUGAAGGAGGCAGAAAGAAAACCUAUCCCUCGUUAGAAUUUUGUGACCAAUGGUCAUGGCACUCUUCUUAGCUAAUUACCUCUCACAAAUUAACUUAAUGGAGAAAAUUAUCUUUAAUGGUCUCAAUUUGUCAAACCUUUCAUUUGUGGGCAUGGACAAAUUGAAUAUUUUAUUAGAGCAACAUCAAUACCACAAGGAACAAUUCUCAUCGAGACAUGGGAAGUAGAGAAGGCCAUGAUUAUGUCAUGGCCGAUCAACUCAAUGGAACUCAAGAUUAGGAAGACAAACAUGUUCAUGCCCAUAACUAGAGAGAUUUAAGAGGUUACAAAGGAAAACUAUUACAACUUGAUAACUUGCCUAGGUCCACAAGAUAGUCAUACAAAUAAAAUACCAACCAAGGUAAUAUGAAUGUAAUUCGGUACUAUAAUACACUCAAACCCCUUUGGUAAGAACUUAAUUUGUUCUAUGAUUAUGAAUAACAUUGUGCACAAGAUAGUGAAAUGUUCUAAAAGAUGAUUGAGAAAGAUCGAGAAUUUGCAUUCCUAGUGGGGUUUAAAUAAUAAAUUAGAUGAGGUUUAAAGUAGAAUUCUUAGUUGUGAAUAAUUCUAGCAAAAUCUGAUACCUCUUUACUUAACACUACCCUAGCUAUAAAAAACAGUAAGCUUCACAUUUCGACCAAUGAUCCAAAAUUCAAAAGGAUCCACAGAAGGCCCUAGUGUGACCAUCAUCUCCUCUAAAUGCUUCUAGAAUUCAAAAUAUCCAUUGACAAGUGAUUAACCAUCAUCUUUUCCAAAUGCAUCCUUAGAUGUCAUAUACCCAACGGUGUUCAAAUUCGUAAGAUAUGACUAAGUCUAGAUAUUAAGAAGAAGGUAUAUCAUCCUCUACCAUUAGAAAGAAGAAGAUAUAUUAUCCUCUACUAGUGAAAGCACAUAUGCCAUCAUCUCAACAAAUCAAGCAUGCGUGAAAAUCUGUCUUCUUAGUCUUUUAAUUGCGGUCAAGAAAAUAUUAAGGAAGUACUUAAUUUGAAGCAUCUCUUCAUCAUCUAUAGUGGUUGUAGUUGCCAAUCCAAUAAUUGUACUCCUUUGAAAGUGGUACAAAUUAUUCUUCCUUAUUCCUUGCAUCACCACAAGUUUACUUGGCAUAACUUUCAAAAUCCCAUCUUUUAUAGUGACAAUAUUGAACCCUAUGGGUUCUAAUUCUCCCAUUGAGAUGAGACACUUAUUCAUACUAGGAACAUACCAAACAUCAUUCAAAAUUUUAGUUAAUUCAUCAUGAGUCUUCAAAUGGAUGGUAUCUAUUAUAGUUAUCUCACAAGCAUUAUCAUUCCCCAUGUAAACAACUCUAUCUUAUAGUUCUUCAAAGCAAUAAAACCACUCCUUUUACAGGAAUGCAUGUGAAGGUGGACCCAAUAUCCAAAAUCCAUUCAUCUAAGUUAUAAAACAAGUAUAAGCAAACCAAAGCAAAGUUUAACCCAUCUUCUCCAAACUUAGCCACACAAGCAUCAAAUACUAUCUCUUCUUUAUUCUUCUUCUGUAGCUUAGGACAAUCAUUAUUCUGACACUACCAAAAUUAAGCAUGGUUGAUCCAUUUAUAUUUACUUUUGCGAUAGAUUUAAGCUGACGCAAAUUUCUAACACACCUAUUCCACUGCAAAUUGAAUUAUCCGUCGCUUAUAUGUAACUAUUUACCAAUGGUAAUUGCAAUAACAAAUACCUGUUAGCAAAAAUAUUAUUGCAAGGGAUUUAAACUAUUGCAAAUGUUCAACUAAUAUACUUUGUCACAAAAGCAAUUUACCUGUUUUUUUUUUUUUUUAUUUUAAAAAAAGUGAAAUUUCAUAAAUAAUUUUUUUAAUGAAAAUUACUACUCACUAAAAUAGUUUUAUUAUAGUGGAUAAUAAUACCACACAUAAUUUGUUCCAAAAAUAAUUGUUGUCUUAUGAAUAUAAAAUCUUUUCACCAUAGUUGUAUGAUAAAUACGAUCUAGCUAGUGACAAAACAAUUUUAUGAUUAUUUUUUUAGGUUCAUACAAUAUUUACAUUUUUUUUAAUCAUAAUAGUUUUAACAUUUUAAUAUUUUUUAACUACUUUUUAUUGUCCAUUUUAGAAAGAAAUAAAUUAAAAAUUAUUGAUAUAUAUAUAUAUAUAUAUAUAUGUUUGUAUGUAUGUGUGUAUGUAUGUAUGUAUGCAUGUAUGUAUAUAUGUAUGAUAUAAUUUAUGAUAUCGAAUAAUAAUAUUUAAAAUUUUAAAAUACAUUUUAUAGAGAUUUAUCUAAUUUGAAUGUAUUCAAUAACAUAAAAAAAAAAUGAUAGUACAUGUAUAAGUAUUUUUAUUUUAAAAUGUUGAUAAUUUUAUUUAUAAAUUUAAAUUUAUUCUAUAUUUAAUUAUUAUACAAAAUACACAAGAAUCAUAAUUAAUUAAUUUAUAAUAAUUUAUAUAUAUAUAUAUUAAUUCAUGCAUGUAUAAUUUAUAUAUGAUAUGUAUUUAUAUAUAGAUAAUAUUUAUAACAUAAAUGCAUAAGGAUACAAUAUUUACAUUUAUGAAUCUUAUAUGCAUUCUUUAUAUUGCACAUAACAAAGUUGAUUUGGUGGCACAGUUGCUUCCUUUCAAACUUGAGGUCAAGAGUUCAGUCUCGAGAAACAGCAUCCAAGCCAAUAUCCAAAACUAGCAAGGAGAGGAGUGUUCAAGAUGCUCCAUGUGAAUGUAAUGAAAUCGAAAUUUCAUGACAACCUAAAAUCUUUUAUUAUUUACAUUUCUCAACCAACUUAAUCCAUCGGUAAUAGUGAUGGUAAAAAUCUAUUGGAUAGUUUUUCACUAAAUAUUUUUUAUUGGCAGUGGAAAAUUCCCAUCGAUAGACUUUUUGCCUACACUCCUUUCCUUGACUACCAUGCAACGGGAUUAUCGGUUGGUAAAUGUUUAUUUAGACCAUGUAUAUCAGUUGAGAAAAGUCAAAUUUCUUGUAGUGUGAUGACCCUUGUCAUGAAAAAGGACACAUUCAUCUUUUGCAAGUAUACAUUUAAAUUAAGAACUGUCUCAUUUUCUAGGUUUUCAACUUUGAGAUUAGGCAUUAACUGUUAAAGCUUCCAAUGAUAUAUCUCUAUGAUUGUUUUGGUCCUUCUUCCUUUAUUCAGAGCUUAGCAAAGUGGAACGCACAACAUCAAAAGUAAUCUUAUCCUUACCAUAAAGUAAAGUGAUGGUAAGAUUUUCUUACACAUCAAGAAGCAAAUUCAAUAACAAUAAGGCCUUAUUCUCAUCUUCAAUGAUCUAAUCUAAAUUCAAAAAAUUUGCUUUGAUUCUAUCAAAUUCAUGCAUAUGAUCAUUCAUAGACAUAUCUAGUUGAUACUAGAAGCAAAUAAGUUUUUUCUUCAAAUAUAGUUGAUUUUCUAGACCUUUUUUCAUUUACUUGUCCUCCAAUGUCUUCCAUAAAUGUUUUUGUGGAUAUCUCUUUCAUAAUGGAAUAAUUUUAAGCAUUAACAAGAAAUAAGUGGAUGGAACUAUAAAAUUGACAAUUGAUCCCUUACUCAUUCUUUGUCAUUCAUGUUUUCAGGUUUUUCUUCCAAAACAAUAUCCAAUUCUUAUUGACAUAUCUAAUUAAUGCCUCUUACUACCACAUUCCAAAAGUACUAGUCCUAUCAAAUUUCACAUUAGUAACCAGAGUUUUAACUAACGAAGUUUUUACCUUUUCUUUUAACUAGUGAAAUAACAAAUAACCUUGAACUAUCUUUGAAACCAACCUUGGAUAGAACUAAGGCUCCUAUACCAUUUUUUUUUUGUGCUUUAACCUAAUCCCACAAGACUUCCAAAAGUACCAAAUAAAAUACAAACUAAACUAGUCCAUAAUAUAAAGAUAAAUAGCAAGAGAAAUAAAAAUAAAAGAGGGUACACAAUAUUUAUGAGGUUUAGUAAGGAUGUCUUACCUAUAUCAUCGGACAAUGAUGAUCAAUCCACUAAUCUUCAAAUCAAAAUUACAAAAUCAAGUUGGGAAAGCUUAUCUCACAAAGUGGAUGCAACUACAAAGAUUGACUGAAGCUACUCUAACAACUUUGCUAAAGUCAUUCUCACACUACUAUAAUGAAAGGACUUAGACUCAUUUAUAGAACCUAAAUAAGUCCCCAAGCCUUGACAAAACUAAUUCAUAAUUCCUAUGGGACAAGGACUCCUAACAUAUAACAAAUUAUGAAAUCAUAAUCCUUAUAGGACAAGGAUCCCUAAAAUAUAUUAAACUCUUAAUUGAGCUAAAAGCCAAUACCUAAUAUAGAACCCACACCAUAUUUGCCAUAACUCUACUAAGUAGCUGGUUGUUAAGCAGAAUUAUCACUUUCAAAAGUUAAAUAAGCAUUUCUUUUUCCUUCCCUUUUCAUUUUUCUUAUCAUCCAAACAACAACAAUAAAAAAUUUAGUGUAACUUUUUGCUUUGAUACUUGUUCUCUCAACUUGCUUGCUUGUGAAUGACCUCCAUAAUCAAAUUAAAUGGAGAAAUAAUGUGGAGUUCCAAGAUAUAGGUAGAAAAGAGUGGACAAAACCCUAGAUCUACAAAAUAGCUAGCAAUUUUGUCUCUAGAUCUCUCAUUGUUGUGGUAAUGGCCAUUGAAGAUGUCAUCACUGAGAAGAUCACAAAGUGAAGAAGGCAUGAUUGAGGGUUGGUAGAGUAGAGAGUUAAGGUAGAAAAUAGCAAAGAUAGGAUUUUGACGUUUUUAGAAUUUGUACAUAAAAAAUAAAUACAAUCCAAAAAUCACUUUGAGAACAUGAUUUUACCUAACCAUGCCAAACACAUUUUUUGUUAUGUGGAAGUGAUAGAAGCGAGAUCAUGCUAGGGUUUUAGAGCCAAAGAGGAUCGGUUGGCAAUGGUGGUGUAGACCCUCCAUUUUGUCCCCCUAGCACACGCCCUAUUAGGUGAUCUUUUAGUAUGCUAUAGUAGUUCCUGGGUAGCCCACGUUACUCGUACAACUAACCUUUUUGAGUCACCUCGAAGACUCUGGUCAAGGGAUUUAUCCGACCCCUUAUUGUGGCCUAGGAUUUUCCUUUCUUUUUUGGACAACUCAUUUAGAUACACUUUUAGGAUAACAUAUCUAGGCACACUCGACCCAUUUAGAUGCACUUGGCCCACUUAGGCUCACUUAGGCCCACCUAAGCUCACUUGGGCCCAUUUUGGCGCGCCUUGAUCCACUUAGGUUUACCUAGUCUUGCUUAGGCCACCUUUUAGAUAUGGUUGCAUGGCUUGUAUGACUAGCAUGUGCUUGAUUUUAUUUUUUUUAUUAGUUUUAUUCAUUUACUUCUUCAUUAUUUAGAAAAUUGCAUGAGAAUUGAGAUUUUAGUUUUUCCUAAUUGCUUGAAUUGAUAUUUCAUAUAUAUUUAUAUAUUUAAUUUAUUCAUUUACUUAUUUUUGUAGGAAAUUGCUUGAGCUUCAUGAUUUUAAUUCUUUUAAUGCGAUUGAUAUUUUAGUUUUAAUUACAUAAUUUUAAUUUUUGAUUUUCAAUUACAAGAUUUUUUUUUUAUCCUACUUUUUAAGUUUUUCAAAUUUUACUAUUUUAUUAUUAAUAUAUGGUUACUAACUUCUAUUUUCUUUUGUUUUAUAGAGAGGAUGUCACUUUGAAAGGUGAACUUACCAUUUUGAAAAGGAAAAGAACCCUAUGAGCUUCACUUUUAAAGAACAUGAUUCCAUACAUUGUUUGAGGAUUAAUUAAGUGGGCAGGUUGCAUAAUUCUCUGUAGGCACAUAGACCUAGACAUUCUUUUUAUUCUUAUUAUUUCCUUGAUUUUCUACUCUUCCAUAUAUUCUCUGCAGGCUGCCAUGUAAAAAUGGAAACAUGUUGCAUAUAAGAGCAAGGUCAACACACAGCCAAAGGAAAGGGUGGCAUACCUACCAUACAGUAGGCAUUCAGAAUCACAAUUGGUGGAAUUUUUAGAAGGAUGAUCAACUUGCCGUUCUGAAUAUGGCAGAACGCUAAAGUGAAAUAAGGAAUGAGAUAUUCGGUUAAGGAAAAUUGAAGGAUUUUGGAAGGCUGGUCAAAGGGACAUUCAGGAUGUUUUUGGAAGGAAGACUCUUCAAGCAAGAUCCAGCAGCACACAAUAAUCAAGAGUGGGGUUUUAUCUUUGGGAAAAGCACACAGCACACGCUGGAUGGGGGAUUUUUCUCCAGCAGACACAAUUGAAGAUUUUCUUGAAGGUAGUAUAGACACACUACCAUUGGGGAUUUUUCUGGUGACACACAUCAUAGAGGCUUUUCCAACAGGCAUGCACCAUAAGUUUGCAAAAUCGACCAUGCUGCCAGAUUUUUAGAGCAGCAACUGCACUGCCAGAUUUUUAGAGCACGCACAUGGGGUUAAAAAAAAAAUAAAAAAUUUCCCCACACAGACUAACCACCAAGAAUUCAUCUUCAUUGGGACACACUUUCCACAGAAAAAUAAAUAGAACCAGUUGCCAUCCACUUUGGAGAGGAAAGCGGCCUACACCUUUGGACUUCGAAACAGCCCCCAUGCAUUAUUGAAAAAGGUAAGUUAAAGCUUUUUUAUUUAAUUUUUUGAUGCGUGAAUAUUAAUUUCGUAAUGGUUUUAGAAUUUUAGUUUUUUUUUAUUUAAUUAAUUCCAUGUCGAUAUUUUCAUCUAUGUGCUUUAGAUUUUUUUAUUUUAAUUAAUUCCAUGUUGAUAUGUUGGUGUUUUCAUAUUUUUAAGUUUAGUUUUUUUCAAUUCGUCCCAUUUAGUUCAAAAGUUUUUAGGUUUUGUUUUGUUUUUUUUUUUUUUUAAUUUAUUAGGUUAUUUGUUUUAUAAGAAAACAUGUGUGAACUUUAAGAUUUCAAUUAGGUAUGUGAAAUGUGGCAGAUUAUUAGAUAUGUUAGCGGCUUGAAUUUAAAAAUAAAAGAGUUAAUAAGUGAAUGUGAAUUGUUGUGAGAUGUUAACUUAGUGGUUUGACUAAAGAAAGAAAAAUCAAUGAAUUGAAAUAACACAUGUUGCCAUGGAUUGAUUGGUGUUGGUGGCCUAGUAAAAUAUAAAAACCAAUGAACUGAAAUAGUGCAUGCCAACCUUGGAUUUAUUUGUGUUAGUGGUAUUUGUUGAGUGAAUAAAAAAUAAAAAUUUGUUUAGGAAUGUUUGGUUAAUUAAUUUAGUGAAUCUCAUGUUUGUGUUUGUGUGUUUCCGAAUUCUUUAAUUUUGAUUUUAAUCCAUUAAUAUUCAAUUUUGUAGUUGAUUAUAAUUUUAGUUAGCUAAUUGAGUUAAUAAAAUGUUAUUAUUUUCCUGUUUUAAGUUUAGUAAUUUUAAUUUUGAUCUAUUAAUAUUUAGUUUGAGUGUAUUAGAGUUUUAGUCAAUUAAUUUAGUUAGUCACAUGUUAUUAUUUUCAUGUUUUAAGUAUGGUAAUUUUGGUUUUGAUCUAUUAAUAUUUAGUGUGAGCUUUUUGUAAUUUUAGCUAAUCAAUCUAGUUAAUUACAUAUUAUUGUUUUCAUAUUUUCAAGUUUGUUAAACUUUGGUUUUUGAUUCAUCAUAUUUUGUUUGAGUGUUAAUUUACUUUAAUUGAUCCUAUGUUAUUAUCUCCAGAUGUUAAGUUUGUUGGUUUUAAUCCUUGAUUGGUUUUUAUCUUAGUUCAUGCACUUCUUGAAUUCUAGAUGUUAGUCUUGGUUAAUAUUUUUGUUAGUUUGUUUAAUUUGGAAGUCAUUAAUUUGUUGCCUUAGUGAUUGAUAGUCAAAUCCUUUUUUUGAAGGCCAUUGGAAACCCAUGAAGUGUGGACCAGUAUUUUUCACGUUUGUCCCCACUCAAACAACGAGACUUGCUUUUAUUUGUGAAAAAUUAAUUUUUGGAAAAGUCGAAGUCGCCAAUUAUUUUAUUUUUAUUUUAAAGUGAAAAUAAAACAAGAAAGAAAACCCUAAAAGGUGACUUCAUAAUUUUUGGAAAAAGUGUCUUUGAAAAACCCGAGUCUAUGUCUGGGGAUCAGGUUACCUAUUGGGAAAGUACCUCUAAAAGGUAGCACCCCUCUAAGCCCUAUAAAGGUCUCUACUAACUACUUUGAGGGAAAUAUGACAAUUAACUGGUUAAUCAUGGAUACUUAAGUAGGCUAGGUGAUUUUGAAAAAUAGCAUGCUUAAUAGGAAAAACAAUCACAAUCAUAAGAAGAUUUAGGUUGUGUACCUGGACUGCUUCUUAAGCGCUAUCACAAGACAUCAAAGUUAGUUCAAAUAGUAUAUCAUCCAACACAUGCGUUUUAUUAGAAAUAAUCGAACAAUGAAACAUGUAUAUCAAAACACUAAAGCACUAUCAAACAUAGGCAUAAUUCACAAUGACAAGCAUAUUCACAGAAUCUAGAAAGUGGGUGAUAGGGGGGACAUACUUGGAUAGCAUAGAUAACUCAUUAUACGCUUCCUCAUGACAUAAGGGGUUCAAUAAUAAAUAAUAAAAUAAGAAAUCCUAGCAUGCUUAAUAUCUAAUUAGCAUAACCAAAAUUAUCAUAGUAUACAAAAGCAUCAAUUAUCACUUACAUCUUGAAUAUAAUUCCUAAAAAAUAAAUAGACAUGAUUACAACAAAUAGCAAGAGUGGUAGCAAAAAUAAGUUUUGAAAAGAUUUUCUUAUGUAGGGGUUUCACCAAUUCCCCAAUCGAUAUACACGAAUUUAGCCUAAAAUUAUCCCAUUCAUUUGGGACCACAAGCUUUGAUUUGUGUUUUGUUCAAAACAUAAAUUUUUAUUGAAAACCGAGAAGGAUGCAGACCGAUCAAGAUAUGGUUGCAUAUUUUAUUUUUAUUUUUUAAAAAGAGAUUUUGAUUCGAUAGACUCAAAAUGAAUUUUCUUUUUGAAUAGAUUUUUUAAAAGGGAUUUUUUGAGAAAAAGUGUUUUGUUUUAAAAUAAAAGAAAUUAAUUUUUAAAAUAACAAAACAUAGAAAACAAAAUACCAACCCAAACAAAAGGAAAUGAAAUCACAAAAUAAAGAUUUAGACAAUCAUGCCAAUUAAAAUGGUGAGAGUAAGGCCAACCUUCAUGAGUUUCUAGUAGCCUUCAAAAAAAGAAUUUGACUAAUAAUCACUAAGGCAACGAACUAAUGACUUCCUAAUCAAACAAACCAAUAAAAAUAUUAUCCAAAACUAACAUCUAGAUUUCAAGAAACACAUAAUAAAAAAAGAACAAUCUAGGAUUAAAGUCAACAAACUUAGCAUAUGGAGAUAAUACUAUAGGGUCAAUUAGGGUGAAUUAACAUUCUAACAAAAUAUGAUAAAUCAAAGACCAAAGUUUAGCAAUCUUGAAAAUAUGAAAACAAUAACAUGCAAUUAACUAGAUUGACUAUCCAAAAUUGCUCAAAACUCGAACUAAAUAUUAAUAGAUCAAAACCAAAAUAUGGCAUACUUAAAAUAUGAAAAAUAAUAACAUGUGAUUGACUAAAUUAAUUAACCGAAACUCUAAAAAUACUAAAACUAAAUAUUGAUGGAUCAAAAUUAAAAUUGUCAUAUUUAAGACAUGAAAAUAAUAACACGUGAUUAAAAUCAAAAUUAACGAAAUCAGAAAAAGCACAAACACAUUCAAACUAAAAAAAAAAAAAUUAAUACUAGAUUAAAUUAGAACUAAAAACAUCAACAUCAUCUAAUAAGAUUGGUUAAACUAUCAAAUAGAAAUUGCAAAUACAUUUAAACUAGAACAAAUAAAUAAAUCAGCAAAUUACAACUAAACUAAAAUUAGAAUUAAAAAUAUGGAAUUCACUUAAGAGGAUUAAUCAAAUAAUUAAAUUAAAAUCAUAAAUGCAUUCAAAUUAUAAAAUAUUAAAAUUAAACUAAAUUGAAAUUAAGCUCUAUCUAAUAAGACUAUUUAAACUAAUGAAUUAAAAUCAACAAAUACAUUUAAGCUAAAAACAUAUUAAAACCAAACCAACUAGGAUUAAAAACACAAACUUUAUUUAACACGAUUAUUUAAACUAAUGAAUUAAGAUCAGUAAAUGCAUUUAAACUAAAAACAAAUUAAGAUCAAACUAACAAGAAUAAAAAAACGCAAACUUUAUUUGACACAAUUAUUUGAACUAAAGAAUUAAUAUCAACAGAUGCAUUUAAACUAAAAACAAAUUAAAAUCAAACAAAUUGGAAUUAAAAACAUAAACUUUAUUCAACAUGAUUAUUUAAACUAAAUAAUUAAGAUCAACAAAUGCAUUUAAACUAAAAACAAUAUAAAAUAAAACUAAUUGGAAUUAAAAACACAAACUUUAUUUGACAUGAUUAUUUAAACUAAAGGAUUAAGAUCAACAAAUGCAUUUAAACUAAAAACAAUAUAAAAUCAAACUAAUUGGAAUUAAAAACACAAACUUUAUUUAAAGAAUUAAGAUCAACAAAUGCAUUUAAACUAAAAAAAAAUUAAAAUAAAACUAAUUGGAAUUAAAAACACAAACUUUUGUUUGACAUGUUUAUUUAAACUAAAGGAUUAAGAUCAACAAAUGCAUUUAAACUAAAAACAAUAUAAAAUCAAACUAAUUGGAAUUAAAAACACAAACUUUAUUUAACAUGAUUAUUUAAACUAAAGAAUUAAGAUCAACAAAUGCAUUUAAACUAAAAAAAAAUUAAAAUCAAACUAAUUGGAAUUAAAAACACAAACUUUAUUUAACAUGAUUAUUUAAACUAAAGAAUUAAGAUCAACAAAUGCAUUUAAACUAAAAACAAAUUAAAAUCAAACUAAUUGGAAUUAAAAACACAAACUUUAUUUAAAUUAUCAUAUAAAUUAAGAUAAACUAGGAUGGAACUUAUGAACUGCAAUCACAAAAAGAAGACAUCUAAUUUAAGAAAAAUAAAAAAAAUUAUACGAAUUGAUAUUCAAAAGAAUUUAUCACAAAAAAAUUGAUUAAACUAACGAACUAAAAUCUAAACUAAAAAAUGCUCUAUCGAAAACGAAAACUAACCUGUGUUGUGUUUGAAAAAAUACUCUCUUGAUGAUUAAAGUGGCAGCCCGAUCUCCUUCUAAAGUCCUUUGCUCUCCUCCAAAAUUCCGUGUGUUCUCUCUAAAAAAGUUCCCUCGCAUGUUCUCUCUAUCUCAAAAAUUCUCUUGUGCGUGUCCUCUCUUUUAAAAAAAUAUCCACAUGUUCUCUCUACCAAAAAAUUCCUCACUCUGGAAUUCCUUCGUGUGUCCUCUCUAAAAAAAUUGCUCUUGUGUGUCGAUCUCCAAAAAAAUCUCCCCUCUCUUCCAUUCCUUCUAUCUUAUUUAUAUAACAGCCCACCCUAUGGAAUAUUUUAUUUCCUUUUUGGAGAUGUACUUCUAACCUUAAAGGAGACCCAACUUUCUAAACUUCUAAUGGCACUUUCUAUUUCAACUGACUUAAUAAAAGAAACAUGCCAACCCAAUGAAUGUUGUCUGAUGGGCCCUUGGUCAUAUUCCCCUUCUCUCUUCCAACCAACAACACCUGUAACUUGUAAAGUUGCAUUGGGGACUAGUUUAUCUGAAAGCUUGGAUGAGAAUGGAGACCGAACUCCUUCUUAGGUAAUGUAGAGCUUCAAAAUUUCUAGAGAAAGAUUUUAUGGAUAACCAAAGUCCAUGAUUUCAUCCAAUAGCUCAUAAAUCAGAACAAAGUUGUUACGAAUAGCAUCUUCAUCGAAAGCCCCACCGAAAUAAGAUUUGAACAAUGCAACAGGCUCAGCAAUAAACUUGAAUGCACAAGUUACAUUGGCAUUGCUACUGACCACAAUCAUAAUGUACACAUUGUUGAUUCUCAUAUAAAAGGAGUAACCUCCAAUCUACCGCAUAGGACAUGUGCUAAGUUCUUUUGUUUGCAUUAUAUGCAUUCGAAAGGCAUUCACCAUGUUUCCCCUAACAUCGUCAUGAUAUAGGUAAUUGAUGAGGACAUCGCCCCGGAGAUUCAAGAAAUAGAUAGCCGAAAUAGCCAUUGACAUCUCCGAUCUAGUGGAUCCGAUGCCAAACAGAUCAAAGAAUGGGGUUCAGAUAUGCGGUGGUUGAGGCCUUGUUUCAACGACGUCGUUUUGAUUGGGUUAGAUCUCAAGCUUUGGAGAUGAUGAACUCAAAUCUCCCAAAUGAGAGUUGCAGUCAAUGCUAUUGAUCUUGUGUUCUAAAUGCAGUGUGGGCAAUAACCCUGACGGAUCUAUAAUAGCAUCUAGGGUUCUGACGCGGGAGAGGUGGAGAAAGGGACGACGACUGUGGUAGGGAUUCACGAUGGGGGGAGAGGAAAGAGUGGUAAGAAUGUUCUUACUGGAGAUAUCGAGGCAAGAGAGAAGAGCUCGAGGGGAAGGAUCGCGGUCAAUGAAGGAGGUGAGGAUAUGGGUACCGUCCUCGACUACAGCGCGGAAGGAGAAGAAGAGAUUAGGUACAGAGGUCAAGUAGUAAAAGUGGAGGCAGAGGAUUGGUCAUGGCGUGAGAUGGAGCUAUGAGGCGAGUCUUCCAUUUCUAUUUUCUCUGCGAGUGUAUAUGGGUCCCCCACCUUAUAGGCUGCUUCUCUUCAACAGUGACUCCCCUCUCCUUGAUCGCUUCAAGUGACAUGCAAAAUUAAAAAAAUAAAAUUGGAAUAAGAAAAUCCUAUGAUUGGAAAUAUAAUAUAAUAAAAUAAAAAAUCAAAUCAUAUGCCAUAAAAAAUCUAAGAUGUCAAUUCAUGGAAUUAAAGAAUGUAUAAAUAAGUGAGUAAAUAAACAAAUAAAUUGACAAGGGUAUAAAAAUAAAUAUUAGACGUAUGCCAUUAGAAAAAAUCAAGAAAUUAAAUUAAUGUAACGGAUCAUAACAAUUUAAAUAUCAAACUCAAACCCUAAAAAAAAUAUAUAUAUAUUCAUUUAAUGCAAUAUAUAGUUAAGCCAAUACUCAUUUUGUCUCGAAAAAAUAAAAUCAAGAACAUGCCUAAAUGAACUAUGCCAAAAGAAGUGUCUAAGUGACCUAUUCUGAAAAAGUGCUUAGGUGGCCUCGGGUGAAUGUGUGAAAGUUGAAAAGUGUCUAGGUGAAUCUAAAUGGGUCAAAGGGAACCUAAAUAGGCCUAAGGUGGUGCCUAAUGGGCCAAGUGUAUCUAAAUAGGCUUAGGGUAAGACUAGGUGGGCCUAACUAAGUCUAACCUAAAGUGCACCUAAGUGAAACUUAAUCUAAACUUGAAAGACAACCAAGAUAGUAAUGUGGAACUGGAUAAACCCCUCAACCAAAGUCUCAAAAGUGGCCCUGAGAAGGUAAGCUACAUGAGUAGGAAUGGCCCAUCAUGUGCUAAAGGGACAAAAUGGAGGGUCUACAAAUAUGCCCCUCUUCGGUAGAGAUCACGAGUGUAGAGAAUGUGAGUUGAAAUAUGAAUAAUGAGUGGAACGAAGUGAACUAUAUUGAAGAACUAAAGAAGGACCAGAGAUUUUGUCUUAGCACAUGACGAGAGUAAGAUUAGAACACGGGGCUGCAACGACAAUGAUGGAACAACUAUAUGUGGGAGGAAUGACAGUAAAGAGGUAAAGGUAUGUGAUGAGUAGCACAAAGAUAGAAAGGGAUAAAAAGAAUGACUAAAGGUCAUGGAUGAGAUAAAUGACUCUGGGUUGUGAGCUUAGGGCUCUAAAUGGAAAAAAAUGACUUUGGGUUGUGAGCUCAAGUCUCUAAAUGGAAAACAAAUGACUUUGGGUUGUGAGCUUAGGGCUCUAAAUGAAAAUAAUGAAUAUGGGUCAUAAAUAAGAAGAACGACUCUAGGUCAUGAGCUCAGGGCUCUAAAUGGAUAGCUGAUCAGGAUGCUUUUCGGCUCAUGGUGUCGGGUCGAGGCCACUCGCAAGUGGCUAGAAUGGUGAAAACAAAACAUCUCAAGGAUGUGAAGGAUGCAAAUGACUUUAGGUCAUAAGCUCAGGGCUCGGGAUGCUAUGAAUGACUCUAGAUCAUGAUACAAUGGGAAACUUAGGGUUACAAUGAAUAGCUUAGGGCUAUGGAUGGAAUGAAUGACUCUAGGUCAUGAUGCAAUUUGUAACUCAAGGUUACAAUGGAUAGCUCAAGGUUAUAAAAACAGCUCAGGGCUGUGAGCUCCAGGCUCUAUGAAUGAUUAGCUUGAAAGAGAGAGCGAUAUGCAAACUCCAGGUCAAACCACUCAUGGGUGAGCAAAUGAUGAAGGCUCAGCUCAAGGCUGGAAAGACUCCGGGUCUUAAAGAAAUGAUAGCUCAAGGCUAUCAGGUUUAGGGCCUAUAAGGAAUAGAUAGCUCAGGGCUAUGAGACUCAAGGUCUAGAAGGAAUGGAUAGCUCAAGGCUACGAGGCUCAGGGCCCAGAAGGAGCAGAUAAAGAAGACCAACUCAAAAGUGGGUAGGAAGUAAAUGAGAUCAAAUUUGUAUACCUAAAAUGCUAAGGUUCGGACUAUUGAACUUAAGAAGGGAAAUAUGCCCUAAUAUCUAGGGUGCUCGCACUGCUAAAACAACCAGUAAAUCAAUCAUCUAUCGAAAUCAAUUGGUUAGAAAUCAAUGCAUCAUGACAAACCUCUGAAAAAUUUAGAUUGAAAGAACUCUCUGUGUUUGAAAAGCUGCUCUGUCGAUGAAUCUCAAAGUGUGUAUAUCAUGGCUCAUCUAAAAGCAAAUCUCAAAGUGCUAUUGCUCAUCUAGAUAACCCAAUCUGCAAGACAACAAUGGUGAAAGCAAUCUAUCUCAAGAACAUCUGGCUAACAAAUCUACCCAUGCUCCUUAAGUGAAACCUGAUGUGAUCCAUUUCUAUCUCAACGAAUCCAUGUAAGGAGGUCUUGAUACAGUCAAUCGUCGGAAGCUCCAGACUAGUCUCAAUUUAAAAUCAAGUUUGUCAUUGUCUCAAUCUCAAGGAUACUCAAAGAAAAUGGGGAAAUAUGCCCAGUAUGAGAUCCGACGUCAAAGUUGUACGGUAAAUAACCAACACCUAUCAUCCAUCCUCGUACUAUUGCCUAAACAAAAUCUCACCAAGGAGAGGGGAAUAUGUUCCAAUAUGAUAUCUGAUGUCAAAGUUGUGAGAUAAACAACCAACAAUGAUCAUCCAUCUAUGUAUCGCUGUCUAAACAUAAUCUCACCAAGGAAAGGGGAGUAUGCUCCGGUAUGGAUAUUUGAUGUACGAUAAAGAAUCCGUCAAAAUCAAUCAAACAUCUUUAUAACCAUAAAUGGGAAUAGCCAUGCCGUCUAACAACAACUAGGAACCUCAGAGAAAAAGGGAAAUAUGCCCCAUUGUGGAUGUCUAAUGCAUGACAAAAUGAUGAAUCCGAUAUCAUCAAUGAACUGUCUCCAAACUCAAAAAUCCAUCAAAUAUCAAUAUGCCAAUCAAGAGAGAUAAUAAAUGCUUCCAAAAGUAUCCUGCAUAAGAGAAAGCAUAAUAACGACUAUACUUCAACCAAUCUAUAAAAACCUGUCAAAGUGAAGACUAUCAAAGAUAACGUCUGAUCUUAUGGCCUCAAGGUGGUCUUAAGACCAGGGACGUAACGUAGGCCAGGGUGAUAGGGUGAAAGAAAUGAAGGGAAACUUGGCUCAAAUACCCAAUGAUCAAACCCAUACCCUCAUGUACAAGAUGUAAUGCAUAGAAAAACCUCAUGAGCCAUGGACUUAAAGGUAACCAAAGGAAAUGUCGAUAUUGAAACAAGAGAGAGGAUAAGUGGUCAAACUGUUAAUGAAACAUGUGGAUGAUGUGUAGAAGGUAUCGGACUAGAAAUGUGUGUCAAUAUGUAGGGAAUGGAUAAAAGGUGGAACGAAGAUCUAGAAAGAGGUGAUGAGAUAUAAAAUAAGGCAAUAAGAAAGUGGAAGGAAUGAUGAUCAACCCAUAUCUGUACAAUAAAGAAAAGUCAUAUCACCAACGAUUGAAUGGUGAUUAAGACAAUGAUUCGGAGACCCUAGUAAGAAGUUCAAUCAUCUCUCAUACCUAAUACAUAUCAACCAUGACCCAAGAAGCAUAGGAUCUCAUAGAAAUCUCACAUGAACUCUUGACACUCCAAAUGCAUAACAAAAGUGGCUCAAAGAGUGAAAACUCAUAUAAAAAUCUCACAAGAAUCCAAAAUGACAAAUAUACCCAAUAAACAUACCUUAAAAGGAGACAUAAGUGUCCAAUGGAGCAAAAUACCAUAUACGAACAUAUCAUUGGGUUUUUUUUUUUUUUUGAAUGCGCAUGUUGUUAUCAUCAAUAAAUCGAACUCCAAUGGGAAAUAUAUAAGGAAUGAACAAACUCUCUCAAGUCACUAAUGAAUACAUGAACCUCAUCCCAUGAGACAACCUCUCAAACUGAAAUCUCCGAAUCAAUGCCAAAUGAUGGGAUGAAUGGAGUGAUAUGAUUGCCCUCUUUGCACCAAGAAGUGAAAAAUCAUCAACACAAAGAAGAUGAGAGAUAAGAUGAAGCAAAUAACGAUAAAAACAAGAAAGAGAAUGAAAAUGUGAUAAUAGUAAAAUAGAACAAACAAUGUGAUAAGGAGAUGGUAACAAGAAUGAGAAGAUAGGCCUAUAAGUCUAAAGUUCAUGAGACUUUCAUAGCAAAGCAUGAAUAUACAUCAAAGGGCCCUAACCUGAGUAUAGAAAUGUUAAUCAAGUCUAUAAGAAAUAAAUAAGGCUAUAACAUACCGUGUGAGGCUCAAUGGGCUAGCAAUGGUAUAAUAUAUUAAUAAAGGUGAUAAAGUGUAAGGCUAACCAAAAUGAUGGCCACCCAUCCUACGACCAUAAUCUCAAACGUAAUACUUCUUCAGCUGAUCCACAUUGGUAGGCUUUGAAAAUUGGUUUCCAUCUAAAUUGGUUAACCAUGCUGCCCCUUUUGGAGUCAACUCUCGAAUAACAUAAGGCCCAUUCCAACUAGGUCUGAACUUCCCUCUAGGGUCUCCAACUAAACCUCUGAGAAUCCUUAAAACCAAAUCCCCAUUUUUGUAAUGGUCUAAGCUUAACCCAUUUCCUGAAGGCACGAGCCAUCUUCCUCUAAUAGGCUUGAACAUGAUCUGCUGCUCUCAAUCUCCUCUCAUCUAAAAGGUUAAGUUGAUCAAAUCGAGCCCGAGCCCACUCUGUCUCAUAAAUCUGUUGCUCAAGGACUACUCUCAAUGAACCCAUCUCUGUCUCAACUAGCAAAAUAGCCUCCAUACCAUACACUAGAAAGUAAGGUGUAGCUCCCGUAGAAAUGCGAAAAGAGGUACAGUAUGCCCACAGUGCAAAAUGGAGUUUCUCUAACCAAUCUCGAGAAGUCUCAACCAUCUUCCUCAAAAUCCUCUUAAUGUUCUUAUUUGUUGUCUGUACUGUCCCAUUGGUCUGUGGCCUAUAUGCAUAAGAUCUAUGAUGUCGAAUGCCAUACUUCCACAACAAAGUAUCUACCUCAGCUCGAAAGUGCACCCCUCUAUCUGAAAUCAACUCAUGAAGAAUCCCAUAGCGGCAAAUGAUGUGUGACCUGAUGAAACGGGCAACUCUAGUAGAUGUUAACCUCGCAUAUGAUGCAGCCUCCACCCACUUGGUGAAAUAAUCUAUGGAGACUAGGAUGAACUCAUGACCAUUGGAAUAUUUUGGUGAAAUCUUCCCAAUAAUAUCAAUACCCAUACUGAAAAUGGUUAUGGCGAGGUCAAAGCAUGUAACUUUGAUGGCGGUGCAUGAAUGAGAUCACCAUGAAUUUGACACUCUGGGCAUUUAUGAAAAAACUGAGAACAAUUUGUCUCCAUAAUCAACCAAAAACACCCUGUCCUCGUAAUCUUACGGGCCAACAUGUGUCCUCCCAUAUGCAGACCACAAACUCUUGCAUGAACCUCUCUCAUCACUUUGUCUACAAAGGCUUAAUCUAAACACAACAGAAGCAUACCAUCAGCUGAUCGCCUAUAUAAGUGAUUACUACCCAAAAAGUGCUAUUUUACACCUUUAAUGCAUUAUGUUUUAAGCACUUUUGUGUAGUAGUUCUCCAUCUUUAGUCCAAUUGGCAUGUUAAGGACCUAGCAAUGUCUUCUAAUCAUAUUUGUGGCUAGUUUUAAUGUUUUGACAGCUUUUUGGAUCAUUAAGACAAGUCAAGCAAAGGAGAGAAGCAAAGAGAAGCAAAGAGAAGCAAAGUGAAAAAAAUCAAGAUGUAGCAGCUGCAGUCUUCUUUCACACUUUUGGAGCACUUUCCGAAGUCCAGUUUUUACAUACUAUAUACCAUUUCAAAGCUAUGGAAGUCAAGAAUCCAACGCUUCAAACCGUGUACGAUUUGGAGCUGAAAUGAGGAAGAUAUGGCCUUCGGAAGCCAACUGCUCCAGGUUAUGCGAAAAUUUCGCAUUCCACAAGAGGUUAUGCGAAAUUCGCAUAACAUUCGCAUAUGGUUCGCAUAACCCAUGCGUGUUGCGAAUUUUGCUCUGCCCUUUGCCGACUCCACUUUAGAUAUUUUCCUUUGUAUUUUGUGAUGUAAUUUCCUUUAUUAUCCUUGUAACUAACCAAUCAUAAGCUUUGGCUUUUGUAAAGACUUUAUAAGGGGUGGAAAUCACCUCUUGGAACAUAUGGAAUACGUAUUACGUUUUUACACUGUGAAUUUUACAGAGCUCUCUCGUUCUCUUUUCUCUUUACUAUUUUCGUUUUCUUGGAAGCCAAACAACCUCUAAGGAUGUUUGCCCGGAGGAUGAGAGGCUAAACUUUCGGUUUCUUGGAGUAAAGGAAGCUAGGUGAAAAGUCCAGAUGAAAAGGUGGAAAGCUUCCAUGCAUUAAAUUCAGGUAGUUGGAAUUCAUAAAUGGCUUCUAAAUCCAAAGUUUUGCUUUAAACCCCUUAGAAUCACUUUGAAUGACCAAUACAUGGUAAGCUUCAGGUCUUUAUGGAUGCUUAUUGCUAGAUUCAUAUUAGUCCAUUAGUUAUCAUGUACGAGUCAUUGGAAAGUGAUUCAAGGUGAAGACCCAUAGUGUCUUAAGCCAUUAAUGGACCUUGACUAUCAUUUCUAUUGAUCUUUUAUGGAUUAAAUCUUCAUUGUCAAACCUACACCGGUUUGGGAAAUAACUAUAGGUUAAAUCCCCAAUGCGAGGAGAAAAAUCCGGAAUUUUCCACUUUCUAUUCUGAACUUGAUCCUAGCAACCCUUAGCUCCGGGAGACUUUCUUUCUUCCAUUUUUAAUUAGUUUAUGUUAGUUUAGUUUCAAACACUUUCAAAACAAAUUUUAUUUUCUUUUAAACUUUAAGUUUUUUAUCAUGGAAAUCAUUAAAUCCAAUUUCUAAUUUUGAGUAUAUCACUGGUAGAAUGGAAACCCAUCCCAGAGUUCGACCCUAGAGCCACUAUACUAUAGUAGCUUUGCUACGUUAGUAUGAGGUCAUAGGUUUUAUAAAUGUUUUUGAUUAAAUGACCCAUUUGGAGUUACAUGCGAAUCAAAAUGGCGCCGUUGCCGGGGAUGGUGCCACAAUACAGUGAUGCAACCUUUUAGAGGCUACUUGUGAUUCCCAUCACAAGUUUGGUGAAUUCCUUUUUCACUAACUUCAUUUCCUUUCAUUUUAUUUUUGUCAGGUUUAUUUUCAUUUUCAUUUUCUUUCUAACCUUAAUUUUUUUUUUCUAGGUUUCUUUUGUUUUUGUUAUUUUUGUUUUAUUUCAGGUAAGUAGUAACUUGUGCAUGCCCUAUUGGAUUCGGGACCAAGAGGGAAGAUUAGUAAGGAUUGAGAAUCCUCAAGACACAGAGUUGGAUAUUUGUGUUAAUAUCAUGGACCCUCCACCAGAGGAUCAGAAUUCUCAACAAGGUCAAGGGGGUAAUCCCAAUGCAUAUUUAUCCAUGAGGGAUAGAAUGCACCCACCAAGGAUGAGUGCACCCUCAUGCAUCAUACCUCCUCUUGAGCAGUUGGUUAUAAGGCCCCAUAUUGUGCCCCUUCUACCAAAUUUCCAUGGAAUGGAGAGUGAGAAUCCAUAUGCCCACAUCAAGGAGUUUGAGGAGGUUUGCAAUACCUUUAGAGAGGGAGGAGCUUCAAUAGACUUGAUGAGACUCAAGCUAUUCCCUUUUACUCUGAAGGACAAGGCAAAAAUAUGGCUUAAUUCUUUAAGGCCAAGGAGCAUAAGGAAUUGGGUUGAUCUUCAGGCCGAAUUUUUGAAGAAAUUUUUCCCCACCCAUAGGACCAAUGGGUUGAAGAGACAAAUCUCAAAUUUUUCUGCUAAAGAAAAUGAGAAGUUCCAUGAAUGUUGGGAAAGGUAUAUGGAGGCCAUCAAUGCUUGUCCUCAUCAUGGCUUUGAUACAUGGCUCUUGGUGAGCUAUUUUUAUGAUGGAAUGUCCUCCUCCAUGAAGCAAAUUCUUGAAACCAUGUGUGGGGGAGAUUUUAUGAGCAAGAAUCCGGAAGAAGCCAUGGACUUUUUAAGUUAUGUGUCUGAAGUGUCAAGAGGAUGGGAUGAGCCCAACUCAAGAGAAAAAGGGAAGUUUCCCUCUCAACCAACCCAAAAUCCAAAAGGUGGAAUGUACGUAUUAAGUGAAGACAUGGACAUGAAAGCUAAAGUGGCAACAAUAGCAAGGAAGUUGGAAGAACUUGAGUUGAAAAAGAUACAUGAAGUCCAAGCCAUUUCCGAGACCCAAGCCCAUGUCAUGCCAUGCACCAUUUGCCAAUCAUGUGAUCAUGUGGUAGAUGAGUGCCCAACCAUGCCAGCUGUGAGGGAGAUGUUAGGUGAUCAAGCCAAUGUUGUGGGGCAAUUUAGGCCUAACAACAGUGCACCUUAUGGAAACACCUAUAAUUCAAGUUGGAGAAACCAUCCAAAUUUUUCAUGGAAACCAAGACCACCUCCAUACCAACCACAAGGCCAAACCCAAGCACCUCAACAAACCUCUUCAGUGGAGCAAGCCAUUGUGAACCUAAGUAAAGUCAUGGGUGACUUUGUGGGUGAACAAAAGGCAAUCAACUCCCAAUUGCAUCAAAAGAUUGAAAAUGUUGAGAGUUCUCAAAUUAAGAGAAUGGAGGGGAUGCAAAAUGAUCUAUCUCAGAAGAUAGAUAAUAUUCAAUACUCCAUCUCUAGGCUUACCAACCUCAACACUGUGAAUGAAAAGGGAAAGUUUCCCUCUCAACCAAGCCAAAAUCCCAAGGGUGUUCAUGAAGUUGAAACCCAAGAGGGGGAGUCUUCAAAGUUGAGGGAGGUUAAAGCUUUGAUCACUUUAAGGAGUGGAAAAGAGGUUGAUCAACCCCUGCCUAAGGUGAAGCAAGAUGAAGAACUCAUGUCAAAGAAAACCUUGGUCAAAGAGAGCAAUAACCAAGAAGAGAAGAGUGGGAAGAAAAAUGCAUCCAAAUCAAGCAUUGAAGAAGAGCCAAGGAUAGUGAUUAAAGAGGAUAUGAUGAAGAAACAUAUGCCUCCCCCUUUUCCUCAAGCUUUACAUGGAAAGAAGGAAAUCAAGAAUUCAUCAGAAAUUCUUGAAGUCUUGAGACAAGUGAAGGUGAAUAUACCCUUACUUGAUAUGAUCAAGCAAGUCCCCACAUAUGCAAAGUUUCAAAAGGACUUGUGCACGGUCAAGAGAGGGUUACAUGUGACAAAGAAUGCAUUCCUCACUGAGCAAGUAAGUGCUAUCAUUCAGAGUAAGUCUCCAGUUAAGUAUAAAGAUCCGGGAUGUCCCACCAUUUCAGUCAACAUUGGAGGGACACAAGUGGAGAAAGCUUUACUAGACUUGGGGGCAAGUGUGAAUUUGCUCCCAUACUCUGUGUACAAGCAACUGGGACUUGGAGGAUUGAAGCCCACAGCCAUCACUCUCUCCUUAGCUGAUAGGUCAGUAAAAAUCCCAAGGGGGGUGAUAGAGGAUGUUCUAGUUCAAGUGGACAAAUUCUACUAUCUUGUGGAUUUUGUUGUGCUUGAUACUGAUCCCACAGUGAAGGAAGCAAACUAUGUACCAAUUAUCCUUGGGAGACCUUUCCUAGCUACCUCCAAUGCCAUCAUCAAUUGUAGAAAUGGGGUGAUGCAGCUCACAUUUGGGAAUAUGACCUUGGAAUUAAACAUAUUCCACCUAUGCAAGAGGCAUCUUCACCCAGAAGAAGAGGAAGGAUUAGAGGAGGUGUGCUUGAUCAACACCUUGGUUGAAGAGCAUUGUGACAAGAAUUUACAAGAGAGCUUGAAUGAAAGCCUUGAAAUGUUUGAAGAAGGGUUACCUACACCCUCUGAUGUUCUACCUAUCAUGUCUCCUUGGAGGAGACAGCAAGAGAUCUUACCACUGUUCAACCAAGAAGACUCACAAGAAGCAACUGUGGAUGACCCUCCAAAGCUUGUUUUGAAGCCGCUCCCUGUUAAUUUGAAAUAUGCAUAUUUGGAGGAAAAUGAGAAAUGUCCAGUGGUGGUUUCUUCAACUCUUACUAGUGAUCAAGAGGAUAAUCUUUUGGGAGUCCUCAGGAAAUGCAAGAAAGCCAUUGGAUGGCAAAUUUCUGAUCUGAAAGGGAUUAGCCCUUUGGUGUGCACCCACCAUAUUUAUAUGGAGGAUGAUGCAAAACUAGUGAGGCAGCCCCAGAGGAGGUUGAAUCCUCACAUGCAAGAGGUGGCGAGGGGUGAAGUUCUGAAGCUACUCCAAGCUGGGAUCAUAUAUCCCAUUUCAGACAGUUUGUGGGUGAGCCCCACCCAAGUAGUCCCAAAGAAAUCUGGAAUCACUAUGGUCCAGAAUGAGAAAGGGGAGGAAGUCUCUACACGCCCUACCUCAGGAUGGAGGGUGUGUAUAGACUACAGGAGGUUGAAUUCAGUGACUAGGAAGGACCAUUUCCCAUUGCCUUUCAUGGACCAAGUCCUUGAGAGAGUCUCAGGACAUCCUUUCUACUUUUUUCUGGAUGGGUACUCGGGGUACUUCCAAAUAGAGAUUGAUUUGGAAGAUCAAGAAAAGACAACCUUCACUUGCCCCUUUGGUACUUUUGUGUAUAGGAGAAUGCCCUUUGGUCUAUGCAAUGCUCCUGCAACUUUCCAAAGAUGUAUGCUGAGCAUCUUCAGUGAUAUGGUGGAGCGCAUCAUGGAAGUCUUCAUGGAUGACAUCACUGUUUAUGGAAGUUCUUAUGAGGAGUGUUUGUUGCAUUUAGAAGCUGUUCUCCAAAGAUGUAUUGAGAAAGACCUAGUGCUAAAUUGGGAGAAGUGCCAUUUUAUGGUACAACAAGGAAUUGUCUUAGGACAUAUCAUCUCCAAGAAGGGCAUUGAGGUAGAUAAGGCUAAGGUGGAGCUUAUUGUUAAGUUGCCACCUCCCACAAAUGUUAAGGGAAUUAGGCAAUUCCUUGGACAUGCCGGGUUCUAUAGGAGGUUCAUUAAGGAUUUCUCAAAAAUCUCAAAGCCUCUUUGUGAACUCUUGGUAAAAGAUGCCAAGUUUGUGUGGGAUGAGAAGUGUCAGAAGAGUUUUGAGGAACUGAAGCAAUUCCUCACAACUGCACCAAUAGUGAGAGCCCCAAAUUGGAAGUUACCUUUUGAGGUAAUGUGUGAUGCAAGUGACCUUGCUAUGGGGGCUGUCUUAGGGCAAAGAGAAGAUGGAAAGCCCUAUGUAAUUUAUUAUGCUAGCAAAACUUUGAACGAGGCUUAAAGGAACUACACAACUACUGAGAAGGAGUUGUUGGCAGUAGUUUUUGCCUUGGAUAAGUUUCGUGCUUAUUUGGUAGGGUCCUCUAUAGUGGUGUUCACUGACCAUUCCGCUUUGAAGUACUUGCUAACCAAGCAAGAUGCCAAGGCAAGAUUGAUAAGAUGGAUCCUUUUGCUCCAAGAAUUCAAUCUCCAAAUCCGGGAUAAAAAGGGGAUAGAAAAUGUGGUAGCUGACCACUUGUCAAGACUUGUGAUAUCACGUGACUCACAUGGUCUGCCUAUCAAUGAUGACUUCCCUGAGGAGUCUCUCAUGUCAAUAGAGGUAGCUCCAUGGUAUUCUCACAUUGCAAAUUUCUUGGUUACUGGAGAAGUACCAAGUGAGUGGAGUACCCAAGACAAGAGGCAUUUCUUUGCUAAGAUCCAUGCCUAUUAUUGGGAGGAGCCUUUUCUCUUCAAAUAUUGUGCGGAUCAAAUCAUAAGGAAAUGUGUUCCUGAACAAGAGCAAUCAGGAAUUCUUUCCCAUUGCCAUGAUAAUGCAUGUGGAGGUCAUUUUGCCUCAUAGAAAACAGUAAUGAAAGUGAUCCAAUCAGGUUUUUGGUGGCCCUCUCUUUUCAAGGAUGCCCACUCUAUGUGCAAGGGAUGUGAUCGGUGUCAAAGGCUUGGUAAGCUAACACGCCGAAAUAUGAUGCCCUUGAAUCCCAUCUUGAUAGUGGAUGUCUUUGAUGUUUAGGGGAUAGACUUCAUGAGACCAUUUCCAAUGUUGUUUGGACAUUCCUACAUUUUGGUGGGAGUGGAUUAUGUCUCUAAGUGGGUAGAAGCAAUCCCAUGUAGGAGCAAUGAUCAUAAGGUGGUUCUUAGAUUCCUCAAGGACAACAUCUUUGCAAGAUUUGGUGUGCCUAAGGCCAUUAUCAGUGAUGGAGGAACCCACUUUUGCAAUAAACCUUUUGAGACUCUUCUAGCCAAGUAUGGGGUUAAGCACAAGGUAGCUACACCUUAUCACCCUCAAACAAGUGGCCAAGUUGAGUUAGCCAACCGGGAAAUCAAGAAUAUAUUGAUGAAGGUGGUGANNNNNNNNNNNNNNNNNNNNNNNNNNNNNNNNNNNNNNNNNNNNNNNNNNNNNNNNNNNNNNNNNNNNNNNNNNNNNNNNNNNNNNNNNNNNNNNNNNNNCAUUGCCAUGAUAAUGCAUGUGGAGGUCAUUUUGCCUCCCAGAAAACAGCAAUGAAAGUGAUCCAAUCAGGUUUUUGGUGGCCCUCUCUUUUCAAGGAUGCCCACUUUAUGUGCAAGGGAUGUGAUCGGUGUCAAAGGCUUGGUAAGCUAACACGCCGAAAUAUGAUGCCCUUGAAUCCCAUCUUGAUAGUGGAUGUCUUUGAUGUUUGGGGGAUAGACUUCAUGGGACCAUUUCCAAUGUCGUUUGGACAUUCCUACAUUUUGGUGGGAGUGGAUUAUGUCUCUAAGUGGGUAGAAGCAAUCCCAUGUAGGAGCAAUGAUCAUAAGGUGGUUCUUAGAUUCCUCAAGGACAACAUCUUUGCAAGAUUUGGUGUGCCUAAGGCCAUUAUCAGUGAUGGAGGAACCCACUUUUGCAAUAAACCUUUUGAGACUCUUCUAGCCAAGUAUGGGGUUAAGCACAAGGUAGCUACACCUUAUCACCCUCAAACAAGUGGCCAAGUUGAGUUAGCCAACCGGGAAAUCAAGAAUAUAUUGAUGAAGGUGGUGAAUGUGAAUAGGAAGGAUUGGUCUAUUAAGCUCUUAGAUUCCCUAUGGGCUUAUAGGACCGCUUACAAGACCAUUCUUGGGAUGUCUCCUUAUCGCCUUGUUUAUGGCAAAGCGUGUCACCUUCCAGUGGAGAUUGAAUAUAAAGCAUGGUGGGCAAUCAAGAAGCUCAACAUGGAUUUGACAAGAGCCGGGUUGAAGAGAUGUUUGGAUUUGAAUGAAUUGGAGGAAAUGAGGAAUGAUGCUUACCUCAAUUCAAAAAUUGCAAAAGAGAGGUUGAAGAAAUGGCAUGAUCAAUUGGUAAAUCAAAAGAAUUUUGCCAAGGGACAAAGAGUCUUGCUUUAUGACUCUAAGCUUCAUCUUUUUCCGGGAAAAUUGAAAUCAAGAUGGACGGGUCCUUUCAUAAUUCAUGAUGUGAAAUCAAAUGGAGUAGUGGAACUACUCAACUUCAAUAGCACUCGAACUUUCAAAGUGAAUGAGCAUCGUCUUAAGCCUUAUAUAGAAUCAUUUUCCCGAGACAAGGAGGAAUUCAUCCUCCUUGAUCCACCUCCAACAUGAAAAUACUUGGUUUAUGGUUGAACUUAGUCUCUUCAAAGACUAAAGAGUUCAUCCUCUUUUUGUUUUCUUUUAAGUUGAUUUUAAUUUAAUCUAGUUUUUUUUUCUUGUGUUUUUCCAUGUUUUGAUUUUUUUUUUUUGACUUUAAUGCCGUUCUAAUGUGUUUUUAAUUGGUUUUUUGGGUUAACAUUUAGGUGGGAAAGCUUGAGGAAUGAAGUCAUGGUGAAAGUAAGGCAAAACAGGGGAGAAAAAAACAAGUUUCAGCCAUUUUCGAAACCCCCCCCCCAUAUGCGAAAUUUUCGCAUAACACACCCCUUAUGCGAAAAUGCUUUUGUGGCAAUUUAAAAAAAAACAUGCUCUCGGUCCCUUCCCAAAAUCCCUUAUGCGAAUUUCACAGGAAUGCGAACCAUAUGCCAACCAUAUGCGAAUUCGUUUUUGAGACAAAUUUGCAAAACCAUGCUCUCUGUCUGGGUUCUCACAGGAAUGCGAAAUUUUCGCAUAACAUAAGGGGUAAUGCGAAAUUUGCAUUUCCUCUUUAAAGACCGUGUUCUUCUCUUCCCAUGCUCAAUUUCUUCUUCAUUUCUCAUAGCACCUCUCUUCCAAUCACCAAAUCCCUUCAUUAAGUUUCUUUUCUUCAUCAUUCCUCAAUCUCAACACCACCAUGGCAGCCCAUCUCCAUAACUCCACCUCAUAGUCGCGGCAGUCACUAUUCAUCACCGUCCACCCCUUCAAUUUUCAGCUCUUUCCACCAUCAAAAACCUCCCAAUUCCUCACUCAACACUAUAAAUCCAACCCUCAACCAAUUUCAGCCUUGUAUUCACCAAUUCAAAACCUCAAGCUAAGCAUUCAAGCCACGUUUUCUUCAAAGAGAACCCAUGGCCGCCGGGUAGAGGAGCUCCAAUUUUCAAAAUUUCUUCGUGAAAAAGCUCCAAUUUCCAAGCCUAUUCACCAUGAAAAAUUCUUUUCUUACCUUAGCCAGCAUUUCCCACCCUCAAAAGCCAAAAAUUUCCACAAUUUGAAUGAGCUUCAAAACUUCAAGUGGGCGUGUGAAUAGUGCAUAUGCGAAAUUUUUGCAUUCCAUCAUGUGUUAUGCGAAAUUCGCAUAACCCCCCCCCCCCCCCCAAAGGGAAAAUUUUACAAAAACCCCACCCUGGGGCAAUUUUUCACUUUUUUCCUCUCUGCCCCCCCCCAACCCAAACCCGGGGGGCCCCAUUCAUUACUUUCUUAAGCCCAAAAACCCCAGGGGGAAUACCCCCGCCCCCCCAAGCAAUGGGAAAAACCGCCCUGGGGGGGGCCCNNNNNNNNNNNNNNNNNNNNNNNNNNNNNNNNNNNNNNNNNNNNNNNNNNNNNNNNNNNNNNNNNNNNNNNNNNNNNNNNNNNNNNNNNNNNNNNNNNNNCCCCCCCCCCCCCCCAUAUGCGAAAUUUUCGUAUAACCCCUACCUUGUGCCAAUUUUUCACUUUUUCCAUCUCUGCCCUCCCCAAUCCAAAGCCUAUGAGCCUCAUUUCAUUACUUCAUUAUGCCUAAGACCCGAGGAGGACAUACCUCAGCUCCCCAGAGCAGUGAGAGAGCCACCCCUAUGCGGGCCCCACUAGAUGCGCUGCCACAUUUAGCUGAUUCUGCCUCUCAGAGCAGAUACCAUACGAGAAGAGCAUCUGCCACACCUAUGGCCCCUACUCAGAUUCCACUUUGGGGUCCUCCUACAAAGAAAGCCAAGACUUCAAAGCCAGGAGAGUCCUCUAGAGCACCUCGGGAUUCACAGUCUCAACCGCCCAUCACUAUCCCUGGUUUAGAGUACCGUGCCUUGCUCGGUUCUUUUCAGACUCUGACCACUACUCAGACGGCCAUUAUGGAGCGCAUGGACUACUUCCAGAUUCAGCAGGAGCAGCAGACUCUCAUUCUCCGUGAGAUUCAGCAGCACCUCGGUCUUGUGCCAUCAGCUCCACCUGUAGCGGUGCCUUCCUCAGUUCCAGCAGAGGACCCCUCCUAUCCACCAGAGGAGCCUACUACUUGAUCAUACGAUCACUCCUCUCCCUUUUUUUUUUUUUUUUUAUCUAUAUUCUAUGUUUUUUGGAUGUCUUAUGUAUUUUGGACCACCUUUAUAUUGGGAUUGGAUAUAUUCCAUGUUUGUCUUGUAUAUUGUACUCUCUCAGUUUAUAUAGACAUCUUCCUUUUUGUGUAUUUUAGCUAUUCCUUUUUAUUUCCUCUAAUCAUCACUCUUAUGAUUUUUCUUUUCUUAUGCAACAUGUGGUUUCUCCUCUCUAUUCAGAGUACCUUACUAUAAGGAGGUAUCACUUCCUCCCUUUUAUUACCAUUUGCUUUUAGAACAUUGGGGACAAUGUUCAUCCUAGUUGGGGGGAGAGUUGAGGAAGUAAAUUGUUGAAUUUUUUUGGUUAAGUUAUUUUGCUAACAAAUUUUUUGCAAACUCUCCUUGUUUUCUUAAAGAUAAAUUCUCAAAAAUAAAUAGGAGAAAUUAAAUUCUUAUCUUAUUGCCAUAGUCUUAGAGUUUGUAUUAUGCUUAUUAAAGUUGAUAAAUUGUUGAAGCUCCUUUUGAUUUCAAUCUUAAGUCUUCCACUCUAAUCUUUUCACACACUGAACACAUUAGAUUCCAGUUAUAAGAUGGAAAACUUUUUCACCCCCUAAACUUAGGAAAUUUUUGACUUGGUACCAUUGACUUCAUUCUAUUAGUGUUGGGACACCUUAUAAAAGGCCAAUGUGUCUUAUGAAAAAAAUUUUGCUUCACUUGCUUUGAAACCCGAGCAAGGUCCGAGGGGUAUAUGGUGAAAAUCUUUAAAACCUGGUGCCCUAAGCCUUCAAUGGUUGGGAGCCACCGACCUCACUGCUCGUUACAUGGGUGGAUGGGUGGAGUAUAUUAAAAAUAAAAAUAAAAAAAAGAAAAAAAGAAAAAGAAGAGGUGCGUUCUUAGCCUUCUAUAUAUGAGUUAGUGUUGCUAAAGUUAGAGAAAAACCUUAGUUGGGAGGAGAAUAUAGUUUGACACACUAUAACUGGAAACUAAGCAUCUUAACACUUAGAUUUUUGUGGAAGAUUAAGAGUUGGUCCUUUGGGAGUGGAAAUUAUUUUGAUACUCAAAUUUGCAUAAUGCCCGCUUUUUGAAUGUUGUGAUAGGUAAGUUAUUUGAUGACUCUUGUUGAUGAUUGAGUUUUAUAUCCUUGACUAUUCACAAGAGAGUUUGAUCCAAUCAUGCCACUUGGUUAUUUUUUGGAGUGAUCAGCAUGAUUUUGUAAAAUAUUAUAUUAUCUAUUCUUCUUUAUUUUUCUUUCCUUCAUUGCUCAGGGACUAGCAAUGUGUCAGUUGGGGGGAGUGAUUACUACCCAAAAAGUGCUAUUUUACACCUUUAAUGCAUUAUGUUUUAAGCACUUUUGUGUAGUAGUUCUCCAUCUUUAGUCCAAUUGGCAUGUUAAGGACCUAGCAAUGUCUUCUAAUCAUAUUUGUGGCUAGUUUUAAUGUUUUGACAGCUUUUUGGAUCAUUAAGACAAGUCAAGCAAAGGAGAGAAGCAAAGAGAAGCAAAGUGAAAAAAAUCAAGAUGUAGCAGCUGCAGUCUUAUUUCACACUUUUGGAGCACUUUCCGAAGUCCAUUUUUUACAUGCUGUAUACCAUUUCAAAGCUCUGGAAGUCAAGAAUCCAACGCUUCAAACCGUGUACGAUUUGGAGCUGAAAUGAGGAAGAUAUGGCCUUCGGAAGCCAACUGCUCCAGGUUAUGCGAAAAUUUCGCAUUCCACAAGAGGUUAUGCGAAAUUCGCAUAACAUUCGCAUAUGGUUCGCAUAACCCAUGCGUGUUGCGAAUUUUGCUCUGCCCUUUGCCGACUCCACUUUAGAUAUUUUCCUUUGUAUUUUGUGAUGUAAUUUCCUUUAUUAUCCUUGUAACUAACCAAUCAUAAGCUUUGGCUUUUGUAAAGACUUUAUAAGGGGUGGAAAUCACCUCUUGGAACAUAUGGAAUACGUAUUACAUUUUUACACUGUGAAUUUUACAGAGCUCUCUCGUUCUCUUUUCUCUUUACUAUUUUCGUUUUCUUGGAAGCCAAAAAACCUCUAAGGAUGUUUGCCCGGAGGAUGAGAGGCUAAACUUUCGGUUUCUUGGAGUAAAGGAAGCUAGGUGAAAAGUCCAGAUGAAAAGGUGGAAAGCUUCCAUGCAUUAAAUUCAGGUAGUUGGAAUUCAUAAAUGGCUUCUAAAUCCAAAGUUUUGCUUUAAACCCCUUAGAAUCACUUUGAAUGACCAAUACAUGGUAAGCUUCAGGUCUUUAUGGAUGCUUAUUGCUAGAUUCAUAUUAGUCCAUUAGUUAUCAUGUACGAGUCAUUGGAAAGUGAUUCAAGGUGAAGACCCAUAGUGUCUUAAGCCAUUAAUGGACCUUGACUAUCAUUUCUAUUGAUCUUUUAUGGAUUAAAUCUUCAUUGUCAAACCUACACUGGUUCGGGAAAUAACUAUAGGUUAAAUCCCCAAUGCGAGGAGAAAAAUCCGGAAUUUUCCACUUUCUAUUCUGAACUUGAUCCUAGCAACCCUUAGCUCCGGGAGACUUUCUUUCUUCCAUUUUUAAUUAGUUUAUGUUAGUUUAGUUUCAAACACUUUCAAAACAAAUUUUAUUUUCUUUUAAACUUUAAGUUUUUGAUCAAGGAAAUCAUUAAAUCCAAUUUCUAAUUUUGAGUAUAUCACUGGUAGAAUGAAAACCCAUCCCAGAGUUCGACCCUAGAGCCACUAUACUAUAGUAGCUUUGCUACGUUAGUAUGAGGUCAUAGGUUUUAUAAAUGUUUUUGAUUAAAUGACCCGAUUGGAGUUACACGCGAAUCAAUAAGGUAUCUCCACAAAUCAUAAAUCUAGUGGCUAACUGUCUCAAUGCUCUUCGAUCCUUAGCUAUGGCUACCUCAAGAUAUGUGCCAGAUCUAAGAAACUGAUAAAUGUCAUGAUAUCAAGGUAGAUCAUCCUGGACCUCUGUCUCUCCAAUCAAACAACAGUAGGUGGGUGCAGACCUCAACUCAAUUAGCAAUGGAUGUACUACUACAUCAAUCGGAAUGUCCAUAGAAGAAGCUAGGGUAGCUAAGGCGUUAGCAAACUGGUUUUGCAAUCUAGGAAAAUGAACAUAUCUCAAGUCAUCAAAUCUCGCAACUAGUAACUCCAAGUAAGCGUGAUACGACCUAAGCUUCACAUCUCUAGCCUUCCAAUCUCCUUAAAUCUGUCUGAGUACCAAAUUAGAGUCACCAAAUACCUCAAUUUGUCUAAUGCCAAGCUCCAAUACAGUCUCUCAACCAAGGAUACAAGCCUCAUACUCAAUUAUAUUAUUCAUGAUAAGUGUCAAUCAAGGAAUGCCAAACAAAUAGACCUCGAAAUGUGAUCAUCCUGAGGGGAUACCAACAAAACACCUAUCCCAUACCCUGAUUGAUUAGCUGCACCAUCAAAGUACAUGCACCAUCCUGAUAAGCUAGUCAUAACAAUAAACUCCUCAUCUAAAAAAUCAUCAUCAACUGGUCUAUCCUUAGAUGUCAGUAGUGAGGCUAAGUGAUUGGCGACAAUACUUCCCUUAAUAGACUUUUGAGAAACAUAUUGAAUAUCAAACUCUGUCAAAAGUACGAGCCAUCUCAUCAGUCUACUAGUCAAUACAGGUCUAUCAAAUAGAAAUCUCAAUAGAUCUAGGCGGGAUAUCAAAUGCACUGAAAUCUUUGUCAUGUAAUGCCUCAAUUUCUUGGUAGCCUAAGGUAGUGCUAAGUAAAGGUGCUCAAUCAUAACAUAUCUCAUCUUAUACUCUAACAUCCUCUUACUUGGAUAGUAAAUAGCUCGCUCCCUCCCUAAGUCAUCAAGCUGAGCUAAAAUACAUCCUAAGGUCAUGUCUGAAACUGACAAAUACAAAAGAAGUGAAGGUCCCAACAUAGGAGGCAUUAGAAUAGGAGGAGAAAUCAAGUACUCCUUGAUCUUCUCAAAUGCAAGUUGGUAAUCAUCAUUCCAAAUUGUUGGUGAUUCAUGCCCAAUUGGUGUCUCAGCUGAUUUGUGUCCAGCUGCUGCUCCUUGAUUGAGGGAGUAAUCAACAAAAUUUGUAACCUAUAACACCAUAUACUAGGGUAGCAAAGAAAAAGCUACUAUAGUAUAGUGGCUUUAGGAUCGUCCACUGGGAAAGAUUAACAAGCUCUCAAUGAUACCAAUUCCAAGUGAAUUGGUUUUGUUUCAUUUCAUGGUUAGCUUAAGAAGUAAAACACAAACUUUGAUUGGUAAAGGUUUAGACUUAAACUAACUAACAUAACAGAAGUUUGGAAUAAUUUAGGAAGAAAAGCAUUCCCUGGAGAGUUAGGUUCACUGGGGUGGUUCCUCAUGCAAAAGACAUAGCUCCGGUCAGAUGGUUCAUUUCCUCGCGUUAGAGAUUCAACAUAUAGUCAAUUCUCUAACCGGUAUUGUACAGAGACUCCUUCAAUUAGAUUUCACUUUAAUUCUCUCACUGAUGCAACUUGCAAUGAUUUAAGCCUCUCACUAAGCCUUAACCAUUCAAGGUGAUCUUUAACCUUGGAUUACCCGUCAAAAGCUCGCAAGAGAUAACUAAUGGAUGUCUCCUAGGAGUCCAAAAGCUUACCAAGUGUUGGCUAUUCUAGAAAAUCCUACCUUGAAGUCACCUCCCAGAGGCUCACAAGGGGUAAACUAGUGCAUUUCCAUGGUUGGAAAUCACUUGCCUUACCAAGUGUUGGCCGAGGUGACUCUAAGGUGUUUUAAGUUAACUAAAAACAUAGAAAUCACUAAAGGAUUUCACUUCCUCUUCAUUACUAGCUAAAACCACAGAGCUUUGCAUUCUUGCACUUGGAACCUUCCCCGGCAACCUUAGCUCCAAGGAACUAGAGGUUUAGUUACUCAUUCUCUGGGGAAAACUCCUCAGAGAGUUCAUAACUUAGUAAGAAAAUGAAAAUACAAAGUGAGAAGGUAAGGCAGUAGAAAGAAAAUAAACUUUACUUGCUUACCCAAACUUUUACAGAAGGAACUCCUCCCUGAGAACAGGCUCCCGAGAGGUAUAUAUAUGAACAUAAUAUAAAACUAAUUAUUACAUAGAUAUUUAGUCUUUUUACUAACUUAAAAGCUAAGGAAUCAUGUAAUUGGUGGUUUACAAGGAGUAUUUUGGGAUUUAGACAACAAAAAUAUGAUGGAAAAUAUCUCCCAAUGUCGGUAGCAAAUAUCGGGAGGCUUCAAGAAUCAUUUCGCAGGAGAAAAAUGGUGUCUGCGAGAUUUCGCAGACACUCAAGAGGGCUGCGAAAUAAUUUCGCAACACCAAGCUAUAUUCACAGGGCUGCGAAAUUGGCUUCCACCUUGAGGUUCCCAGCUUCCUUCUCGCGGCAUAAAUCGGGCAUCGUCAGAAGGAGAAACAUUACACUGUUCAAAAAGGCUGCGAAAUCACUUCGCAACAAAAGGGUGAUUUCGCAACACUUUGCAAAAUGCUUCCUUCAGCUAGGAGUGAUUGGCUUGUAAUGGCUGCAACUUCUUCGUUUCAACUCCGAAUUGCACACCGUUUAAAGAAUUGGAUUGUUGACUUCUUGAGCUUUGAAAUGGUAUAUAGCAUGCAUCAUCUGGACUUCAGAAAGUGCUCUAAAAGUGGUUGUUACGACUCUCAUCAAGAAUAUGCUUUAUGGCAGAUUCUCUUUGCUUUUUUCUCCUUGCAAUCCGGAUUUACUCUUGGCAAAUGAUUUCUAAGCUUUGCCCAAGAUUCCUUAUAGCUCUCCUCAGUCUUGACUUGCUUUGGUGAUCAAAAUACUAACAAAAACACCAAAACUUACACAAAGUGAUCAAAAUUGUUUUCAAGGGUCCUUAACAUGCCAAUUGAGUUAAAAGGCCAAAACUACUACUCAAAAGUGUUUAAAAGGAUUAAUUAUAAGCUAUCAAAUAGCACUUUUUGAGUAGUAAUCAGUUGGCUGAUUCUUUCUCAAAAGACGAAAAAUGGGCUCACAUAUGUCUAUCAAUCUGGCUAUGAAUCAACUGAUAUACUGUAAUUUGCCUAGAAAACCCCUGAUAUCUUUCUUAGUCUUUGAUACAAGCAUGUCAAGUAUGGCUUUGAUCUUAUCUGGGUCGACCUCUAUGCCCCUCUCACGAACCAUAUGCCCCAAUAAUUUCCUAGAAGUCACUCCAAAGGUGCACUUCUUUGGAUUCAGCCUCAAUCUGAAUUUUUGGAUUCUCUCAAAGAAUCUCUCUAGAGCUUCUAGGUGAUUUGCUCUGCCUCAGGAUUUCAAAAUCAUAUCAUCCACAUAAACUUCAACAUCCUUAUGCAUCAUGUCAUGAAACAAAGUAGUAGCAGCCCUCUGAUAAGUGGCUCCUACGUUUUUCAACCCAAAUAGCAUAACCCUGUAACAGUAGGUACCCCACUCAAUAAUAAAGGUUGUCUUCUCCAUAUCCUCUAGAGCCAUCAAAAUCUGAUUAUACCCUGAAAACCCAUCCAUGAAGUCAACAUUGAAUGGCCUGAGGUGCUAUCAACCAAUAAAUCAAUAUGAGGGAGAGGAAAGUCAUUUUUAGGGCUAGCUUUAUUAAGGUCUCUAAAGUCAACACAUACUCUAACUUUGCCGUACUUUUUGGGAACAGGGAUGACAUUAGCCAACCACUCUGGGUACUCAACCACUGAUAUGAAUCCAACACUGAGUUGUUUCUGAAUCUCCUUUUUCACCUAUAGACUCCAACGUGGAUGCAACCGUCUUAAUUUCUGCUUAAUUGGUUUGGCAUGUGGUGUUGAACUAUAGAGGGAUCGAGGUUAGGCAUGUCCUCAUAAGACCAUGCAAAGACAUCUAAGUAUGACCAGAGUAAAUAAAUAAGUCUAUCCCUCUCAUCUGUAGAUAAGGGUGAACCAAUCUUCAGCUCUCUAGGCUAAUCCUUUGUGCCAAAAUCAACAGUCUUAACAUCCCCUGUAACUGGUGAAACUCUCUCAUCCAUGGGGUUUGAGUCAUGAUAAAAAAAAGCCUUUAUCUAAAUAGAGCUGUGCAAUCUCAUAAUUUAUAUCCAAUAUCUGUGGAGUGGGUGAAUAGGGUACAAAUAUAGAGAUACUAUCAUAAGAGAUAAGAAAAUACUAAAAAAUACUCAAAUCCAUAAAUGAAGCAAUAGAAACAUCGUCAGAGCAGGAGACAAAUCCUGAUAAAACAUCAAAGAAAAGAUGUGGAUCCACAAGGUUGGACGCUCCCUUAACUGGGCUAACAGUGCCCUCAAACAAACUACCAUCAUCCUCUAGAACCUCUAGAGCAGGAAUAGUCUAGGUCUCCUCAAUAACCUCAAUAGUAGACACCCCAAACAUAUCAAAUGGUGAAACUGGUUGAAGCUGAACAAUGUUGCUGAUCUGAAUCAUGGUUAUCAUGUCCAUCUCAUCUCGGUACUCAUCAUGGAGAACAACUCCAUUAAUCAUCUCAGUGGUAUCGACGACCACUCCCUCAUCAAUGACCUCCUUUGGGAAGCAUAGAAACAACAAACUAGCUCGAUCUAGAGACGGAGGAGCAAUUUCCAUAGAAAUAGAAGUGUCAGGAGCCCCAUCACUCAAUUGUGACCAGUGAAAUAGAUGUUGAAGCUCGAUCUCUCUAUCUAUAUGAAUCACACUAUCAAUCUCCUCUAGACGGGGUUGAAUCUCUGAUCCUUUGACAAAGUAGUUGGUCAAACUUAUCCUAUAAGAUCGAAUAGGAUAAUCAAAUGGUGUGUGAGACAAACGGGCCCUCACUCUCUCCUUGCAUAGUCAUGCCAUGUAUCGGUAAUCAACCUCACUAGGAAUGAACCCAAGUUCAAAUGUCGUAUCAUGGUCAAUGGCAGUUAUAAACUCACUGGGUCCCUACUGAUGUCAUUCUAACCCCAUGCCAGGUAGAAAAGUCAUACCCCUCAUCAUAUCAAGAAUCAUUGUGUGUUGAUCAAAUGACAUGGCUACAAAAUCUCUACAAAAAUCCUCAAUCUCAAGAGUUCGUAUCUCAUCAAAAGUAAACCCAGUUAGAAAUAGGUCAUCCUCACUGUGAUUGGUCUGAAGUACUGGCUCAGAAGAGGCUAACAUAUCUCAGAUAGACUAUACUGUGAUGACUUGCCCAUCAUGAAUGAACUUCACCUUCUGAUGAAGGGAAUAAGGAAUAACUCAUGCUUUAUGAAUCCAUGGUCGGCCUAGUAGCAUGUUAAAAGAUGUAGGAAUCCUCAAAACCUGGAACAAAGUAGAGAAUGUGGCUAAACCAAUCCAUAAAUCAAUCACUAAGGUACCCAUAACCUCUCUCUUGGUGCUAUCAUACUCUCUGACUGUCCAAGUAGAGGGACCAAAAUCCGAAGGCGUGAAACCAAGGGCUAUAGUAGUGGUUAAAGGGCAGACGUUCAGGGUUGAGCCAUAGUCUAAUAGGACAGAUGGAACUCUAUGGCAUGAACAACCAACUAUGAUAUAUAGAAGGCGUACAUGGUCUGAACCAUCAGGGGACAAAUCAUCAUCUGAAAACACAAUGCAAGUGGCCUUGCUGGUCGUCAUUAUAUGAAUCAAUCCCUCUAGAGUGGUUGGGUUCUCUACUCUGAUCUGACUCAAGGCUCGAAUCAAAGCAUCUCUAUGAGUACUAGAUGAUGCUAAUAAGCUCCAAAUAGAAAUACGAGCCUGAGUACUAUAUAACUAUCUCAAAACCUUAUCAUCAUCUCUCUUAACCUCCUUAUGAGAGGCUACACCCUCAAAUGGUUUGACUGCUAGUGGUGGUGGUGGAACUAUCCUCCCACUAAGAGUCACAAUCUGUAUCUCUUUUUCCUCUAAAUCAUCAUCCUCUAGCCACAAAGUGAAUGGGACAGUGAUAUCCUAGUAUCUGAUAACCAAAGGUGUAGAAUGAACCAACUAGAAUGGCGCCCCAUCUGGGAUCAAAUUGAAUGGUGCAAGAACCCGCAGACCUAAUAAAACCCCAUCAACCUCACUACUGUCAUGCAGAACAAUUGGCUUGGGUAAUCCAUCAUCCUAACUCAACAUAUGUAUACUGUCAUCCUCUAUAAAGUCUAUGUGAUGGAUAUCUCUUGGAGGUGGAGGCACUGCAUGUGUAGAAUGGGCGGGAAGAGGGUUAGUGGUCACACUUGGCUGCCCCAAGUUAACCAAACCCUGGUCUAACAAGUCCUGUAUAGCAUGUCUCAAAGCAAUGCAAUGGUCUGUAUCAUGCCCUAUACCCUGAUGGUAGGAACAAUGUAAAUCCAUCCUGAAACGAGGUGGUAUGGGCUGGGGUAAAGGCCUAGGAGCUAACUGAGUCAAUAAACCAUCCUCUAUGAACUUGUGGAAAGCUCGGCUCAAAGACAUACCUAGCUGGGAGAACUUUCAUGUCGACCUUUGUACAUAAGUAGUGGUCUGUGGGGCUUGGGGUUGAGGGUAUGACAUAGGAGGUCUCUCUGUGAAAUGUGCAGAAAAAAUAGGUUGUGAGACUGGAUGUAGAUAAUUAGGAAUGAUGGGUCUAGAAGGAGCAGGUGGUUUAUACUGCACAUGAUGUGAGGGUGGGUAAUAGAAUCCAAAAGUCUACCCAACUGUCUGAUAAAGUAUAGGAGGUCUCAUCCUUGAUGAAUUGAUAGCACUUACAUCUCUUGGUCUUUGUCCUCCUGAAGUCUUCUUCCCCUUAAAGUCAGUAGGAGAAGACUCGGGCCACAAUCCUCUGGCAAUGCCCUCCUCUAUACCAUACAAAGCCGGUACCAAAGAUCCAAAAUCCUUAUAGGGAAAUCCCAUCAAGUGUUUAGCAAAUCUAGGCUGCAAACUCCUCAAAAUCAUACUAAUCUGAUCCUUCUCUGAAAGACGAUCAAUAAUUUGUGAAAUCUUCUCCCUCUAACGGGAGAUAAAUGAAGUGACUAACUCCUUUGGCCUCUGUCUCAAUGCCUCUAGCUCUCUCCUCGAAACAUCAAUGAUAGUGUUAAAUGAAAAAUGUCUCAAAAACUCCUGGGCCAGAUUAUCCCAAGUCCUACGGCGUAAUACACCCAAUGAAGCGAACCAACAUUAUGUCGCACCACUCUAGAAGAUAGGGAAAAGCAUAACCAUUUGGGUCUCAUCUAGUCUGUGGGUCCUCAUAACCGUACUAUAGAGCCUCAAAUGGAUACGAGGAUAACCUAUGCCCAUGUAUCUCUCAAUCUCAAGCAUCCUAAACUUGGUCGGUAAACUGGCCAAUAGUGCUCCAUCAAAAUCCUCCUAAGUAAUAACUAAUUUUGAAGCCCUCAUUUGUCUCAACCUCUGCUCGAGUCUAUCCAUACGUGUAUGUGGGUCCUUUGAGGUCGGGAUAGGCAAUGUGAUAGGAGGUGGGGCUACCUCGGUCUGACUAUGCAGAGUGAAAAGUAUAACCUAUGGUGUUGAUUGACUGGGUGGAGGAGAUAGUGGAACUGUGGUAUCGAACCGGGCACUCUCCUAAACUGGGACCUGUUGGGCCUACUGCCCAUCUAUCAUUUGGCCAAGAUUAGCUAUAGCUUCCUGGAUCAAAGCCAUAACUGCAUCAAAAUGGUCAAUGGUAACUAUCUAUGAGUCCAUAUCUCUCUAAUCUGAUCUCUGAUCUAACUGGUCUGAUACUCUAUUCAAUCUAUCUCCAACCCUAAUCCAUGAAGGUGAAUCCAGAUCGGUCACAGUAAAUCCUCCUACAAAUAUGGAAACACUAGAUAAGGUGCAGUAUGAAUGUGACUCUAUAGGAAUCAACUGACAAGUGCAUAAAAGUAUAGCCCAAAUAUACUCAAUCUGAUACCCAUCUUUGAUCACACCAAAAGGAGACUAUGGAAGGGAUAACCGAACCUAAUCAUGACCAAGACAACUCUAAAGGUCCACAGAUGCACCUACGUGUAGGAAUGAAAUCUUAAUUGGGUCUAGGUUAACUUACAGGGUGGAGAUGGCUCUACAGGAUAAAAUGGGUGGGUUAAAGGAUCCCUAGCAGAAGUUAUCAUACCCUCCAAUGGUACGCAACCCUUUGCACGCCUCCAAGGAAACUAGGUACUUCCAUGCAAGGUGGUCAUCACCUCCACACAUGCACUUCCUCACUUUCCCAGGGGGUUUCUUAAAGGUGAAGGCUCUCUCAUCUCUCAACACUUAGGGACAAUGUAAAGUGCACAAUGAAGGAUGUGGGUGCAUCCGAAAAACCUAAGAUCUAAAGUGAGAUAAGGAACAAAGAUAAACAAUCAUACAAUCAUGCAAGAGAAAGGGUUAUCAUGCAACAAACAGUCAUGCGAAGCAAAUAAAUAUCAAACAAUCAAAGUUUUAUCUAUCAUAUGUGAGAGUGAAUCAUGCUGAAGUGAGCAAGCAAUCAAGUGAUCAUCCUAGGCAAUCAAACAUGUUAAGAUAGCAAACCCAACAAGCAAGCAAAUCUAAUCACCUUGUCCAAAAAGGGGGUACCCUCUAAUCGACCAAUUAAACGCCACAUUUUCCUCAAAUAGUGUACAAGCUUGAUCCUAAAACUCCCCAAUGGAGUCACCAAUUUAUGGACCUGCAUUUUUCAUGUGUGUCCCCACUUGAACGGCGAGACUCACUUUUAUUUGUGAAAAAUUAAUUUUUGGAAAAGUCGGGGUUGCCACUUAUUUUAUUUUUAUUAUAAAGGGAAAAUAAAACAAGAAAGAAAACCCUAAAAAGUAACUCCAUAAUUUUUGGAAAAAUCGUGUCUUUGAAAAACCCGAAUCUAGGUUCGGGGAUCAGGUUACCUAUUGGGAAGGUACUUCUAAAAGGUAGCACCCUUCUAAGCCCUAUAAAGGUCUCUACUAACUAAGUUGAGGGAAAUAUGGCAAUUAACUGGUUAAUCAUGGAUACCUAAGUAGGCUAGGUGAUUUUGAAAAAUAACAUGCUUAACAAGAAAAUCGAUCACAAUCAUGAAGAAUAUUUAGGGUGCGUACAUGGACUGCUUCUUAAGCACUAUCACAAGACAUCAAAGUUAGUUCAAAUAGUAUGUCAUCUAGCAUGUGUUUUAUUAGAAAUAAUCGAACAAUGAAACAUGUAUAUCAAAACACUCAAUCACUAUAAAAAAUAGGCAUAAUUCACAAUGACAAACAUACUCAUAGAAUAUAGAAAGUGGGUGAUAGGGGACGUACCUGGAUAGCAUAGAUAACUCAUUAUAUGCUUCCUUUGGACAUGGGGGUUAGGUAAUAAAUAAUAAAAUAAGAAAUCCUAGCAUGCUUAAUAUCUAAUUAGCAUAGCAAAAAUGAUUACAAUAUACGAAAUCAUCAAUUAUCACUUAUAUCUUGUAUAUAAUUCCUAAAAAAUAAAUAGACAAGAUUACAACAAAUAGCAAAGGUGGUAGAAAAAAUAAGUUUUGAAAAGAUUUUCUUAUGUAGGGGUUUCACCAAUUCCUCAAUCGAUAUACACAAAUUUAUCCUAAAAUUAUCCAUUCAUUUGGGACCACAAGCUUUGAUUUGUGUUUUGUUCAAAACCAAAAUUUUUAUUGAAAAUCAAGAAGGAUGCAAACAAAUCAAGAUAUGAUUGCAUAUUAUUAAUUUUUUUUUUUUUUUAAAAAAAAAAAGAGAUUUUGAUUCUAAAGCUCUAAAUGAAUUUUCUUUUUGAAUAGAUUUUUUAAAGGGAUCUUUUGAGAAAAAGUGUUUUGUUUUAAAAUAAAAGAAAUUAUUUUUUAAAAUAACAUAACAUAGAAAACAAAAAUACCAACCAAAACAAAAGAAAACGGAGAUCACAAAAUAAAGAUUUAGACAAUCAUGCCAAUUAAAAUGGUGAGAGUAAGGCCAACCUUCAUGGGUUUCCAACGGCCUUAAAAAAAAUAAAAAAUUGACUAACAAUCACUAAGGCAAAAAACGAACGGCUUCCUAAUCAAACAAACUAACAAAAAUAUUAUCCAAAACUAACAUCUAGAUUUCAAGAAACACAUAAUAAAAAAAAGAACAAUCAAAGAUUAAAGCCAACAAAUUUAGCAUAUGGAGAUAAUACUACAGGGUCAAUUAAGGUAAAUUAACAUUCUAACAAAAUAUGAUAAAUCAAAGACCAAAGUUUAGUAAUCUUAAAAAUAUGAAAAAAAAUAACAUGCAAUUAACUAGAUUGACUAUCCAAAAUUCCUAAAAACUCGAACUAAAUAUUAAUAGAUCAAAACCAAAAUAUGCUAUACUCAAAAUAUGAAAAAUAAUAUGUGAUUGACUAAAUUAAUUAACCGAAACUCUAAAAACACUAAAACCAAAUAUUGAUGGAUCAAAAUUAAAAUUGCCAUAUUUAAGACAUGAAAAUAAUAACACAUGAUUAACUAAGUUAAUUAACUAAAAUUAUAAUCAACUACAAAAUUGGAUAUAAAUGGAUUAAAAUCAAAAUUAACGAAAUCGGAAAAAACACAAACACAUUCAAACUGAAAAAAAAAAAAUUAAUACUGGAUUAAAUUAGAACUAAAAACAUCAACAUCAUCUAAUAAGAUUGGUUAAAAUAUCAAAUUGAAAUUUCAAAUACAUUUAAACUAGAACAAAUAAAUAAAUCAGCAAAUUAGAACUAAACUAAAAUUGGAAUUAAAAAUAUGAAAUUCAUCUAAGAGGAGUAAUCAAAUAAUUAAAUUAACACCAUAAAUGCAUUCAAAUUAUAAAAUAUUAAAAUUAAACUAAAUUGAAAUUAAGAUAUAUCUAAUAAGAUUAUUUAAACUGAUGAAUUAAAAUCAACAAAUACAUUUAAGCUAAAAACAAAUUAAAACCAAACCAACUAGGAUUAAAAACACAAACUUUAUUUGACAAAAUUAUUUAAACUAAUGAAUUAAGAUCAAUAAAUGCAUUUAAACUAAAAACAAAUUAAGACCAAACUAACAAGAAAAAAAAAACACAAACAUUAUUUGACACGAAUAUUUUAACUAAAGAAUUAAGAUCAACAGAUGUAUUUACACUAAAAACAAAUCAAAAUCAAACUAAUUGGAAUUAAAAACACAAACUUUAUUUAACAUGAUUAUGUAAACUAAAGAAUUAAGAUCAACAAAUGCAUUUAAACUAAAAACAAAUUAAAUAAAACUAAUUGGAAUUAAAAACACAAACUUUAUUUGACAUGAUUAUUUAAACUAAAGGAUUAAGAUCAACAAAUGCAUUUAAACUAAAAACAAAUUAAAAUCAAACUAAUUGGAAUUAAAAACACAAACUUUAUUUAAACUAUCAUACAAAUUAAGAUAAACUAACAUGGAACUAAUAAACUGCAAUCACUAAAAGAAGACAUCUAAUUUAAGAAAAAAAAAAUUAUACAAACUGAUAUUCAAAAGAAUUUAUCACAAAAAAUUGAUUAAACUAACAAACUAAAGUCUAAAAAAAAAAAUGCUCUAUCGAAAACGAAAACUACCCUGUGUUGUGUCUGAACUUGAUGAUUAAAGUGGCAACCCGAUCUCCGUUCGAAGUCCCUUGCUCUCUUCCAAAAUUCCGCGUGUUCUCUCUAAAAAAGAUCCCCCGCGUGUUCUCUCAGUCUCAAAAAUUCUCUUGUGCAUGUCAUUUCUUUUAAAAAAAUAUCUACGUGCUCUCUUUGCCAAAAAAAAUCCUCCCUCCCGAAUUCCUACACAUAUCCUCUCUAAAAAAAUUACUCUUGCUUGUCGAUCUCCAAAAAAAUCUCCCAUCUCUUAUGUUCCUUCUAUCUUAUUUAUAUGGUAGCCCACCCUAUGGAAUAUUUUAUUUCAUUUUUUGAGAUGUAAUUCUAAUCUUAAAGGAGACCCAACUUUCUAAACUUCUAAUGGCACUUUCUAUUUCAACUGACUUAAUAAAAGAAACAUGCCAACCCUAUGAAUGUUGUCUGGUGGGCCCUUGGUCAUAUUCCCCUUCUCUCUUCCAACCAACAACACCUAUAACUAGUAAAGUUGCACUGGGGACUGAUUUAUCUGAAAGCUUGGAUGAGAAUGGAGAUCAAACUCCUUCUUGGGUAAUGUAGAGCUUCAAAAUUUAUGGAGAAAGAUUUUGUGGAUAACCAAAGUCCAUGAUUUCAUCCAAUAGCUCAUAAAUUAGAACAAAGUUGUUACGAAUAGCAUCUUCCUUGAAAGCCCCACCAAAAUAAGAUUUGAAUAGCGCAACAGCCUCAACAACAAACUUGAAUGCACAAGUUACAUUAGCAUUGCUACUGACCACAAUCACAAUGUACACAUUGUUGAUUUUCAUAUAAAAGAAGGAAAAACCUCCACUUUGCUGCAUAGGACAUGUGCCAUGUUCUUUUGUUUGCAUUUUAUGCAUUCAAAAGGCAUCUAACAUGUUUUCCCCGACAUCGUCGCGAUAUAGGCGAUUGAUGAGGACAUCGCUCGGGAGAUUCAAGAAGUAGAUAGCAGAAGUAGCCACCGAAAUCUCUGAUCCAAUGGAUUCGAUGCCAAACAAAUCAAGGAAUGGGGUUUCGAUCUACGGUGUUUGAGGCCUUGUUUCAACGAUGUCAUUUUUAUUGGGUUGGAUCUCAAGCUCUAGAAAUGAUGAACCUAACUCUCCUAAACAAGAGUUGAAAAUAGCGCAAUUGAUCUUGUGUUCUAAAUGCAGUGUGGGCGAUAACUCUGGCAGAUCUGUAACAGCAUCUAGGGUUCCGAUGUGGGUGAGGUGGAGAAAGGGGCAACGAUGGUGGUGGGGAUUCACGAUGGGGGGAGAGGAGAGUGGCAAGAAUGUUCUUACCUGCGUUAUCGAAGCAGGAGAGGAGAGCCCUGGGGGAAGGAUUGCGAUCGAUGAAGGAGGUGAGAAUAUGGGUUCUGUUCUCGACAACGGUGCAGAAGGAGAAGAUGAGCAAAUGUGAGGAUAUCAAGCAGCGAAGGUGGAGGUAGAGGAGUGGUCAUGGCAUGAGAUGGAGUUGUGAUGUGAGUCUUCUAUUUCUGUCUUCUUUGUGAGUGUAUAUGGGUCCCCACCUUGCGGGCUGCUCCUCUUCAGUUGUGACCCCCCUCUCUUUGAUCGAUCCAAGUGAUAUGCAAAACUAAAAAAAAAAUUGGAAUAAGAAAACCUUAUGAUUGGAAAUAUAAUAAAAUAAAAUCGAAAAUCAAAUCAUCUGCCACAAAAAAAUCUAAGAUGUCAAUUCAUGGAAUUAAAGAAUAUAUAAAUAAGUGGGUAAAUAAACAAAUAAAUUGAUAAGGGUAUACAAAUAAAUAUUAUACAUAUGCAAUUAGAAAAAAUAAAGAAAUUAAAUUAAUGCGAUGGAUCAUAACAAUUUAAAUGUCACACUCAAACCAUCAAAAAUAAGAAAAUAUUCAUUUCAUGCAAUAUAUAGUUAAGCCAAUACUCAUUUUGUCUCGCAAAAAUAAAAUCAAGAACAUGCCUAAAUGAACUAUGCCAAAAGAAGUGUCCAAGUGACCUAUUCUAAAAAAGUGCUUUGGUGAGCUCAGGUGAAUGUGUGCAAGCUGAAAGGUGUUUAGGUGAAUCUAAAUGGGUAAAGGAGAACCUAAGUGGGCCUAAGGUGGUGCCUAAUGGGCCAAGUGUAUCUAAAUGGGCCUAGUGUGAGACUAGGUGAGCCUAACAAAGACUAACCUAAAGUGCACCUAAGUGAAACUUAAUCUAAACUUGAAGGACAACCAAGGUCAUAAUAUGGAACCAGAUAAACCCCUUAACCAAAGUCUCCAAAGUGGCUCAGAAAAGGUAAGCUCCAAGAGUAGGAAUGGGCUAUCAAAGAAACACUGUGGAACACUGGAAGUGAACUUAAAGACAUGUUCUAAAAGGACAAAAUGGAGGGUCUACAACAUGAAGGUUGGCCAUACUCUCACCACUUUAGUCGGCUUGGUUGUCAAAAAUUUUAUUUUGUGAUUUUGUUUUCCUUUGGGUUACCUAUGUUUGAUCCUUGAGUAUUGUCGUUUGUAAAUUAUUUCUUUCAUUUUAAAAAGAAACAUUUUCUCAAAUUGUUCCUCAUUAAAAUGCAUUUCAAAAAUUCAUUUAGAGUCCUUAGAAUCAAAAUCUCAUUUUCUUAAAUAACUUGCAACCAUGUCUUAAUAGAUUUGCAUCUUUCUCAAUUUUCAAUAAAAAUUCUGGCUUUGAGUAGAAUACGAAUCCAAGUUUGUGGUCCUAAAUAAAUGGGAUAAUUCUAGGCUAGAUUUGUGUAUAUCAAUUGGAGAAUUGGUAGAACCCUUACGUAACAAAAAAUUUCAAAACUCUUCCUUGCUACUAGUUUUCACUCAACCACUGACUCUUUAGCUUUCAAAUUUGUUUCAACAACUUUAGAAUAUAUAUAUUUUUUUUUAAAUAUCCAAAUCUUGUAUGAUUUUUCUCACUUCUUGAACUUGAAUUUGAAAUUUCGUUUGAGUUAGAAAGCAAUUUUGGAAUAGAAGAUAUAAAUGAGUUUUUAGGAGGGCUCUGUUUUCACCUAGUUCUGGACACUUGAAAUAUUUUUCUAAAAAUAAAAUAACAUAUGACUUUUUUAAUUUGAUUCAAUAUUUUUUCUUAAUUCAAGAAUUCUUGAAAUUGAUUUAGAGAUAUAAAAUAUUUUAAAAAAUAUGCAUUUUUAAGGCAGAUAUGAUUUUUCAAAGUCAUACCUAAUGCACAUGAUGGAAUCUAGACAUCUAAUUAGUUGGAGUGUUUCAAAAAUAUUUUUGAGUACUAUUCGACCCUAGAUUUAUUUUUCAUGUGCUAUAGACCUUUGACCAAUGUGUGUGAUUUUUUGUAUGAUUUUAUGUGAUCUUUUAUUAUUUUUAAAAAAUUGAUUUAUGCAUGCCACUUUUUCUUUACCUAACCUACACUUUGUGGAACUUUUGGGGUGUCUUUGCUGCAAUCUGUCAUUUGAAUGAGUGUUUGGUUUUUGGUAUGUUGUUCUAGAAUUGUAGGUGUUGUUUUCUAAAAAUUUUUGUAAUUAAAUUCAACUCCAAAAUAUUUUUUUUGAAAUUUCUUUUUGAUGCUUCAUUUUAUAAUUGCAUGCUAAUGAUCUUGUACAUUACUCUAGCAUUUUUGGAGGAAUUUUAUAAAUCGUGCAUGUUAUCUAGGUACACUUUCUAUCACUUACUUUUCAGAAUUCUAUGACCAUGCAUGUUGUUGUUAGCCUUAUUUAUUUUUGAUUCCAUCCUUGGGUGCCUAGAUGUUUGUUCGAUUUGCUCAAAUAAAAUACAUUUCGUGUGCUAACUUUAAUGUCUUAUGAUAGUGCUUGAGAGGCAGUCCAGGUACACAUCCUAACCUUCCUUUGCGAUUGUGAUUUGAUUUCUUUUUUGGCAUGCUAGUUUUGAAAUAACCUUAGCCUACCUAGGUACCUCCAAUCAAUUGAUUAAUUGUCACUUUUCCCUCGACUUAGUCAUUAAAGACCUCUUUAGGGCUUAAAGGGGUGCUACCUGAUUCGUGCCCAGUUAGGUAUUUUAAUAAAAAAUAUUUAUAAAUCCUAUGACCUCAUACUAGUGUAGUAAAACUACUAUAGUAUAGCAGCUCUAGGGUCGAACUCUGGGAUGGGUUUUCACUCUACCAGUGAUAGACUCAAGAUUAGAAAUUGAAUCUAAUGAUUUCCUUUGUCAAAAACUUAAAGUUUAAAAGAAAAUAAAAUUUGUUUUAAAAGUGGUGUUUGAAACUAAACUAACAUAGAAAUAGGAAAAAAUGGAAGAAAGAGAGUCUCCCGGAGCUAAAGGUUGCUAUGAUCAAGUUCAGAAUGCAAAGUGGGAAAUUCCGGAUUUUUCUCCUCGUAUUGGGGACAACAACAUAAAGGAUGGUUGUUUCCUGAACCGGUAUAGGUUUAACAAUGAAGAUUUAAUCCAUAAAAAGUCAAUAGAAAUGGUAAUCAAGUUCCAUUAAUGGCUUUAGACACUAUGGGUCUUCACCUUGACCCACUUUCCAAUAGCUUGUACAUGAUAACUAAUGGUCUUAUGUGGAUCUAGCAAUAAGUAUCCAUAGAGACCUAAAAGCUUAUCAUGUAUUGGCCAUUCAAAGUGAUUCUAAGGGAUUUAAAGCAAAACUUUAGAUUUAAAAGCCAUUUAUGAAAUCCAACUACCUGUAUUUAAUGCACGAGAGUUUUCCACUUUUGCAUCUGAACUUUUCACCUAGCUUCCUUCACUCCAAGAAACCAAAGGUUUAGCCUCUCAUCCUCUGGGAAAACAUCCUCAAAGGUUGUUUGGCUUCCAAGAAAAAGAAAAAUAGAAGAGAGAAAAGGAAAGCAAAGAGAACUCUGUAUUUCUCCCUGAGAGGAAAAUUUUACUAAGUGUAAAAAAUACAAUAAUUUGAGAGAUGAUUUCCACCCCUCUUAAAGUCUUUACAAAGCAAAGCCUGUGAAAAUUACAAGGAUAAGAAAGGAAUUUACAUCUAAAAAUACAGAAGAAAAGAUCUCAUGUGGAGUCGGCAGAACAGAGGAGAUUUCGCACCAAAGUCGCAUGAACAAUACAAGGUGCAAAAUUCGCACUUGCAUGGGCUGGUGCGAAAUUCGCACUUGCAUGGCAUUUUCGCAUGAACAGUACAAAGUGCGAAAUUUGCCAUUUUUAGCUCCUUAUACGAAUGGCAAUAUACCACUAUAGGUACUUGAUUUGUCAGAAAUUCCAAGCCGGUUUCGAAUAUGGGAUUCUUGAAAUGUGAUUUUGCACGAUGAACAAAAUAGAGCCUCCCAAAGUGACAGUGCACGGCUACAAAAACUGCUUCUUUCCUCUGUUUUUCCUCUUUGCUUCUCUCCUUUACUUGGCUUGUCUUAAUGAUCCAAAAAACUGUCAAAACACUAAAACUAGCCACAAAUAUGAUUAGAAGUCAUUGCUAGGUCCUUAACAUGCCAAUUGGAAUAAAAAUGGAGAACUACUACACAAAAGUGCUUAAAACAUAAUGAAUUAAAGGCGCAAAAUAGCACUUUUUAGGUAGUAAUCACUACCUCUUAGAGGUACCUUCUUAAUAGGUAACCUGAUCCCUAGACCAAGACUUGGGUUUUUCAAGACUUGCUUUUCCAAAACAGUGGAGUCACUUCUUUAGGGUUUUCUUUCUUGUUUUAUUUUCCCUUUUAAAAUAAAAUAAAACAACUGGGGACUCCAACUUUUCCAAAACUAAUUUUUCACCAAUAAAAAAAGUCUUACCAUUGAGUAGGAACACACGUGAAAAAUGAAGGUCCAUAGGUGGGUCUUAAGGGAAUAGAUGGAGAAGUUGGGAAUUGAGGUUAGAUUUGAGGUUAAGGUUAAGGUUAGAGCUAGGGUUUCAUCUAUGGAUGGUAAUGAAGAUACAUAUAUAGACAUCCCUUGCAAAAUCUACCAAUAUGAUUAGUUUCUACUAUAUAAUCAACUGAAAUUUGAAUCAAUUCUCCUUCUCAAACUAUGAUAAUAUGAUUUUAGAUGGUUUUUUAUAAUGAUUUCUUUUCCUUUCAAUGAAACUAUAGAUCAAUUCUAUGUUACAACCCGAAUAAAGGAUCCUUAGGAUCCCUUAAUCUUUAGUUUCUAUUGCUAUUUAGUUUCUAUUUAGAUUAGGGAAUAAAGGAUCCCUAAGAUCCUUUAGUCUUUAAUUUCUAUUUAGUUUCCUAUAUAAAAUAAGAAGAGUGUAAUGGGGAAAGAAAUGGAAAAAUAAUCUCAAUAAAAAAAAUUUGUUCUCUCAAUUUUGCAUCUUCUCCUUUAGUCAUAAGAAUUGGUAUUAGAACACGGUCUAGGCACCAAUCAUGGCGGAAAGGACUAGAGUGUAAGAACAACAUAGACUUAAAGAUACUAUUAAAUAGUUGAAAGAAUCGUUGGAUAAACAAGCGACUACCUUAUUAGAACUAUCAAAGAUGGUUGCAAUCAUAAAAUUGAAAUUCAAACACAUAAAUUCAAGAAUAGAGAAGUCAAGUAAUGGAUAUAGUGUUUCAAUCAAUAGAAACAUGAUAGACUAUCACUAAUCUAUCAUAAACUCCAUUCAAACCAGAUUUUCCAAACUCUAUUUUCCAAAUUUUAAAGGUGAGAAUUGGGAAUUAGGAAAAGGUUGGAUUGGCUUCCUUACAUUUAAAACGAAGGGCCUUAGAAAGGUUUCAAGGGUAUGAGGCUAGUAACAAGGAAAUCAAUUGGACACAAUUUUAUAUAGAUGUUGUUUCUAGGUUUAGCCCUAGUGUUUAUGAUAGCCUUAUGGGGCAAAUAACCAAAUUGAAAUAGGUUUCUAAGUUAGGGCAUACCAAAAUUAGUUUAAAGUAUUGAUGACCAAAACUAGCUAGUGGGUUAUCAAAGAAAUUUUUUUUCUAGUGUUUCAUUAGUAGCUUGAAAGAGGUAAUUAAAAAUCAAGUAACUAUGUUUCAACCAAUCACACUAGUCCAAACCAUCAAGUUAGUCUUGUUGCAGAAAUGAAUAAUGGAGGUAAUUCUCAAGGAAUUCAAGGACUCUAACGAAAAUGGGGAGAGUACAGUGAGCUUUACAAGAAUCAUAAUGAAUCAUAAUAACAAAUUACCACCCCUUCAGAAGAUUUUAGACGUAGAAGUGCAAGAGAGAUGAAAAAAAAAAAGUUUUGUUAUUAUUAUGAUGAGAAGUAUGAGUCUAGUUAUAAAUAUAAAAUGAGACAAAAUUUUCUAUUAAAUGGUCAAAAAAGUGAAGGGAAAGCAACAUGUGAAGCUAAAAAUGAUAUAAAGAUGAUGAUCUUGUGGUUUUAAUCAAUGCAAUAUUUCGUUCAACAUCUCAUCAAACCAUGAGAAUCUGUGGCAACAUAAAAAAGAAGAUUGUCACCAUACUAAUUGAUUUAGGAAGCACCCAUAACUUCCUUGAUCUCAUAGUGGCCAAAAGAACAAGAAACUCAAUACAAACUACCAACCCCAUGAAGAUGGUGGUAAAAGAUGGAACUAAAAUUACUAGUGAUGCAAUUUGUAGGCAAUGUUAGGAUAGAACCCUUAAAAACAUGACAUAAUGUAAUAGAUUUGGAAUUCAUUGUUUAUUUAAUGAUGCCCCAGUUUCACUUUUAUCUAUCCUUAUUCCAUGUAUUAUACUUUAUAAGCAUUUUUGUAAACAUCAUUUGCAUUAUACAUGACUUAGAUGCAUUAAAAGUUGUACAGAAGAUCUAAGUCAUGAGUUCCUUGCAAAUAUAUGACUUAUUCACAACCAAUUCAUGGGUCUAGGCAACCCAUUAAAGGUUUUAGUGCACAACUUCCUAAUUGGAGGAAUGAUUGGUCUUGGCUAUUGGGAUGGGUUUCCUAUCAUGAGUGCACUAGUAUGUAUGAAUGCACAUUGGAUAGGACCUAUGGUGAGUUAUGACUUAAGGCUAUCAAGUAGUCAUGAUUUCACCAAGUUACUUCAUUAUGUUGUUUCUUAACCUUGAGAGAAUAUUAAGCUUGUAUUGAAAUUAGCAGUGGCUUUGACCUACGAGUGAGAUAGUAAGAUGAUCAUAUAUUCCUUAUGGAUUGGACCAUUGUUGAUGGAUGUCGGUAGCAAUAAGUAUUCUCAAUAGAAACACCAUGAUAUCUCUUAGCAUUAAGAUAGUGUGUCCCCUUGGGUGAUCCUAAGAACGUAUGUUCAUGGAAACUAUGGCCAUAGUAGUUCCUUAGAUGGAACUUGGCAUAGGCUCUUUCAAAGCUAAGAUAUGUCAAUUUAACACACAAUAGGAGGAUUUGUAAUUCAAGGAUGGUAGAGGUAGUCUUAAAAGACUGAUAGCUUUCACCUUGUUAAACUACAGACACUAAUUCAUAGGAACAUUGAACACAAUGGAUAGUAGGUCGUGGACUCGAGCACUUGGUGUCUCAUUGUUAUUUACAUAGGAUAUUGGAGUUCAAUUUAUUCUUUGUGUGGAAUAUUGAAUCCACUUUAGAAUUGGAUUAUGAGGGAACUGGUAUUCUUAUGGGCCCUAGUGGUCCCUACUUUGAGUUCAUAUACCUUGUUGACACGGAUUAUGAGGUUUGGAUUGGCUUUAGGUUCACUUUUGUACAUAAGGAUAUUUUGGUAAUUAUGCAAGGUUGCACAAAAGUAAGUGAAUAAGUUCUUUGGAUUGCGCUAAUUGAUUAAUUAGUAGGCCUUGUUAGGUUAACUAAUUAAUUAGGACCCAUUUUGGAUUAGAUUAAGUGACCCAAGCCCUUAGUGGACUCAAGUCACUUAAGCCAAGUAGGAAACCCUAUAAAUACUCCUUUAGGGGUUAAGGUUCCCAUUGGUUUUUUCUAGAGAUCCAUCUUCCAUCUCUAGAGAGAGAGAGAGAGAGAUUCAUAGCCUCUACUUUUCCUUCUGUCCCCACUGGAAGUGUGUCAAGAUCAAGUUUUGAGUCAUUGGGUGGAAAACUUUGGGUUUACAAGACUUCUAUGAUUUUGUUCUUCAUCUUCACCUCAUUGAUUUGAUUCGGGAACAUCCAAAUCUAAGGUAUGGCUUUCGUUAACACUUUAUGAAUCCCUUUAAAGUUUUAAAAUGCUAUUUUUUCGUUGUGCAUAGGAUUUAGAAAAAAGACUAGGAUAGUUAUUCAUGUUCCUAACCUGAUCCGAGCUUAGGAAAUGAAGAGAUUCGAGUUUUUCCUAUAAGGCAAUUGACAUGGAACAUGCAAGGGAAGAAAUUUUAGAUAGAUUUGAGGCUUAUACCUUUGAGUGGGUGUAAUAUGGUAUUGGGAAUUCAAUGGCUAGCUGAAUUGGGACUCAUAUUGUGGGAUUUCAAGAAUUUAAAAAUGGAAUUUAUUAUUGAUGGAAGGAAAUUCGUGUUGAAAGGUACAACUAUAGGUUCCAAGAAGCUAGUUUCAACAAAUCAAAUUUAAAAGGAUUUAAGGCAUAUGUCUCAAGUAUCUACAAUUCAAAUUUUCACUAUACAAGGGAAUGAGGAAAAUAAAGUUGAAAAGGAAUAACAUGGCAACUGUCUAACUCAUUUCCAAAAGAUAUAACAUGGAAAGUUUCUUACAAGAUUCAACAAAAGUUUUCAUAGAUUCAACCUUGAGGACAAGGCUUCUUUUGAUGUGGAAAGGAAUGUUACAACCCCAAAUAAAGGAUCCCUAAGAUCCUUUAAUCUUUAGUUUCUAUUUCUAUUUAAUUGGAGAAUAAAGUAUCCCUAAGAUCCAUCAAUCUUUAGUUUUUAUUUCUAUUUAGUUUCCUAUAUAAAAUAAGGAAAGUGUAAUGGAGAAAAACAUGAAAAAAUAAUCUCAAUAAGAAAAAUUUGUUCUCUCAAUUUUGCAUCUUUUCCUCAUAUCAUAAAAUUCUACAUGUGGAUUUUCUCCUUUUGAAGCUCUAUAUGAUACAAAAUUAAUUCUCUUUUACUCAAAUUCCAAGUAUGUAUUUAUAGAAAUGGGUAUGCUUUGACUCUCAAUGAACACAUUUUCUCAAUUUUUCUUCCUACCUAAGUGGAAAUAACAUAAGGCCAUUAAACUUGCUUUGAGAUUAAUUGUGGUUUUGACAAGCAUUUCAUCUAUAAUUCAUUUAUGCAGAACUAGGUAUAGUACAAGACCUCCUAAACAAAGUUUCUAACAGUAAUGAAUUGAAAAGAAGCUGGGUAAAACAAGUUUCUACUCACCAUCCCAAACAUUCCUUUAGAUGUAUUGUAUGGUAGAGGAUUAUUCUUUUAUUAUUAUUAUUAUUAUUAUUGUUAUUAUUAUUAUUAUUAUUAUUAUUAUUAUUAUUAUUAUUAUUAUUAUUCUUGUUUUCUUUUCCCUUUUAAUGGUUUAUAGUAGAUUCAAAUGCCAUUAUAGAAGUAGAAUUUCCUAAUUUAAUUUGUUGGACAAAUUUUCUUUGGUUUUACUAUAUUUUGUGUUUUGAAUACAUACAAAUCGAAAUAUAAUAAGAAAACAAUUAUAAUGUGUUUUUAAGGGGAAUUUUUUUAUCUUCUAUUAGCAAAAAAAAUAAAAAUCAACAAUUAUAAUAAUAUAGACAUUUGCAAUUUUUUUAAAAUGUCUCUGUUAGGACAUUGAGUUUUAUUUGUAUGUUGGUAAUUUUGUUCCAAUUUAUUUUUUGCCUUAGAAAUCUUUUUAGAUAGUGACUUAAUUUCCAUUGAAGAUCAAGGAUUGCUACUUGUCCAAUUGGAAAGUCAUAGGCACGUUUAAAAGGUUUGACUUGUGGCAAAUUGGGGUUCUAAAGGGUAUAAAUAAGAGCAUUAUUCUUUUUCUGGGACUGCUCGAGCGCUUAACUAGCACUCGAAUGCCCAAGGUGCUCAAGCAAUGGUUAAGUGUGCUUGGCCUCAAGCUCUCGAGUGUUCAUGCCGAUUCUACCAAAGAUUAGCAUAAUAUUUACAAAGAUUUCAUGCAAAUCCUAUAUGGAAACCUUGAGAUACCAACUCUCUUCAGCCUCUAAGCUUGUAUAUACCCCAUUAUGCCCAUUCUAAGGUUAGGAGAUUGAUUUAUUGUUGCUACUAAGAGAGAGCCUCCUGGAAAGAAAGCAUAAUGAGCCACACAAUUCCUAAUCUCUCAUUUGAAGGAUUCAUUCAAUAAUCUAGGGUUGAAAACUUGCAUCCCUUCAAUAAGGCUAAAGAGUAUUCAGUGAAGCAAUUAGAGAUUGUUGUAUCAUAUACGUGGAUGAAGUUGUAGGUAUUGGAGGGUAAGCCUUUAGGAUAAAACAACCAGGUAAAUUUGUGUAACUUGAUCUUGUAUAGUGGAUUUUGAUUAGUAGUCUUAAGCCUUGUGGUUUUUUUAUCUCCACCGUAGUGUAGGGAUUUUUCAUGUAAAAAUCAUUGUGUCCAUUGCUAUAUCUUGUGAUUAUCAUGAUUGUUUAGAUUCUAUUUAUCUCUAAUAUUAUCUCAUAGGGUAAAAAUUGAGUAUAACAUAUAAUCUUUAUUUUAGAAUUCUUUUAAUUACACCCAUUCACCUCUCUCUUCUCUUUGGGUGUUACCCUACUAGACUUGGCUUUUUUAGUCUCAAAAUCUAUAUUAGCAUUUUUUUUUUACUUGAGUUAUAAAUGGAAAAAGUUAUAAACUCGAGAUAACUUGUUAAAAAAGUAAGAAAUAAUAAAAGGACUUGUGUUAGAGCAUAAAUAACUAAUCCAUUCUAGGCUUAAUAUAGCUCCAAUGUCAAAUAUGAAUACUUAAUUAUUUAUUAUAUUUUGAAAAUAAAGUAAGUAUUUUUUAUAUAAAAAAUAAAACAACUUUUCUAGAACAACACAAGGCACUAAUGGAUAUAGUUGGUAACAAGUUGGAGAAACAAAAUAAUGUGGAGAAAUAAAACAACAUGUAGAAAUAAAACAACUUGGAGAGAAAGAAAAUGACUAACUGAAAAGGAAAUAGAGAAAUUAUAGAAUGUAAGAUAAUUACACUUAUUUUCAUAAAAAUAAUAUAUUCUAAUACAUUAAAUAAGAAUUAUUUUCCCAAAAAUGUACUCCCCAUGAAAAUGACUUUUGUGGGUUUUCUUUUAUUUAUAUUUUGUAAAUAGUGCAUAUUUACAUAAUUCCCUCAUAAAUAUAAUAUAAUAAUCUAUACCUGAUAAUUAAGGAAAUUGAAAAUAUUUACAUACUAAGCAAGGAUAAUGGAAAUUAAAGAGUAUGUCCAAAGAGAACAAAAAUAUUAAAGAUAAAUUAAAACUCUAAAAUACAAGCCUUAAUCUACACAUAUAGGCCAACAUCUUAGGACGUAUUUGAUUAAAUAAUAAUAAUAAUGAUUAAAAAAUAGAAAAAAUUAUGGGUCCCAUUUUUUAAGUGUUUUCAAUAACAUAAUUAUAAACCCCUUAAAAUUUAAAAUCAUUUAUUCAAACCACUUUAUUCAUUUAGCAACAAGGACUUAAUUAAUCACUAAGAUCAAACACAAUGAUUUAUAAUUUUUAUAAUUUUUUCUUCCAUUACUAUCAUUUUCUUUUUUAAUAAAAUGAAGAUUUCUAUUGAUAAUUUUUUUAUAAUAAAAUGUAACUUCUUUUAAAUUAAAACAUUUAUUAUUAAAAAAUUUAUUUUAAUUCAUCUAUGAGAUUAUUUUAACGAUUUUUUUUUUAGAAUUUUAAUAAUUUUUUUGUUUCAUAGUUAAAGAUAAAAAAAUUAUUAUUAAAUCAUUUUAUUCAUUAUAAAAUUUAUCUUUCUUUUCUAAAUCAGAAUUUUUGUCAUGUCCAUUCAUAUAAUAAAAUUAAAAUUAUAAAUAAAAAAACCUAAUUUAAUUGAUAGCACCAUGGAAUCUUUCCAUGCACACUCAUGCAGCCAUCAGUUCCCACAACAGCCACGUGUCUUCCAACGAGUAUAUUCCCUUUCUUUGGCUCUCCAUGUGUUUGUGUUCUAUUUUUAUUUUUUUAUUUUAUCUUAAUUAGUAGUUCACAUAACAAGCAUGACAAGGAUGAGUAGAUAUGUCACUUCUAACACUAAACCCACUUAAACCAAAGUGAAGUAUGAAUGCAGUAUGCAAGUCUAAAUAAUGGUGAAAUAAUAAAAACAACGGAGAAUGCAUGUAAGAUGUGUAUAUAACUAUAAAUAAGGAUUAAAAAUGAAGGGAAAAAUCAUUGAGAAGGGUGAACCAUGGGUGAUAAGCCACUUAGUUCAUCAUUUGGAUAAAUAUUAAAAGUUAAAGAGUAUAAAAUGUCUACGUAUGUCAUCAUUUUUUUAAGUUAAAUAUAUUCUUAUUGUUGUAAAUUAAGUAAUGAAUGUCACCACAUUUAUUAUAUUAAAUUUUCAUUAAAAGCCUAUAAAAAUGUUUCCUAUCCUCUGUAAAUUUCAUCCUAAGCAAAGAAAGAAACUUUCUUUCUCUCUUAUUUUAUUUUUAUUUUUUAUUCUUCAUAUAUUUCAUUAUUUCAACUCUCUUAAUUCUCUUUUAUGAUUCCUUCCUUUCCAUUAUAUAUUAUUAUCAAAAUAAUAUAUAGUUGUUCUCUACUUUUAUUUGUGUUGCAUUUAUCCUUCUUUUACAACACGUUAUUAGCACGAAUUGCUCUGAAAGUAAUUCUCGUAUCUUAAACUUGAAGUUAUUUAUAUAGAAUAAAAUUUUUCAUAUUUAUAUUGCGAUUGUUAAAUUCAUUUAAUUUGUGUUAUAUAUUAUUAAAAGUUAUAAGCAAAUUAUUUGAUUUUGAUUGUAAUCAAAAGUCAUACCAAUGCUAUUAAUUUAUAACUAAUUCUAUUAAUAUUGUUUUGUCAUAUAUCUAAAGUUAUUUAAUAAUGUCAAAUCUCACAAAACUUGAAUUUGUGGCACUUGACAUUCCGAGAAAGAACUAUCCAUCUUGGAUCCUUGAUGCUAAAAUACAUCUCGAUGCAAUGAAUCUUGGAGCUACAAUUAAAGAAAGAAAUCAAGCAUCCUUGUAGGACUACUCAAAAACGUUGAUUUUCCUUCGCCAUCAUCUCUAUAAAGGUUUUAAAAAUGAGUAUCUUAUAGUAAAUGACAUUUUUACUCUAUGGAGUAAUUUGAAGGAAAGAUAUGACCACCAAAAAGUUGUGAUUCUCCCAAAAGCUCGAUAUGAUUGGAUGCACUUGAGGUUGUAGGAUUUUAAAACUAUUAGUGAAUAUAACAUAACUCUACACUUUUCAAAAUCAACUCUCAAUUAAAGUUGUGUGGAGAAAAAAUCACAAAAAAAGAAAAAACUUUACUAUAUUUCAUGCCUCGAAUGUGAUCUUACAGCAGUAAUACCAAGAGCAUAGAUUUAAAAAAUACUCUGAAUUAAUAUCAUGUCAUCUUGUUACUGAACAAAAUAAUGAGCUUUUGAUGAGAAAUCACUAGUCUCAUCCAAUUGGAUCUUAACCAUUCCUUGAAGUGAAUGCAAUAUCAUCCUAAACUCGUGGACAUGGACGAGGACAAGGAAAUGGUCGUGGUCGUGGAAGGAAUCCCCAAUAUAAUGGUUAUUAUAGUAAUAAUUCCUCAAAUCCUCAUAAAAGGAAAGCUUCAUUGCACCUCCAGAAGUGAAAUAAUAUUGAGGCAAAAUAAGAAAAUGGGAAAUGUUUGCAAGAUAAACCUCUAAAGAACCAUGAGAAUAAUUGUUAUAAAUGUGGUCUGAAUGGUCAUUGAUUGCAUACCUAUUGUAUACUCAAAAAUAUGAUCGACCUUUACCAAGCAUCAAUAAAAGCAAAAGGAAAAGAGAUAGAGAUGAACUUUACCUAUGGUGAUGGAUUGGACCUAACCUACUAAGACAUUGAUUUCUUUGGAGGUCUUAGUGAAAAAACACACUAUUUAAUAAAUGAUGAGAAUGCUAACAUUGAUUGGUGUUACAUUAUAUAUCAAAUAAUAUAUUAUUAUGUCUUAUAUUUAUAUCUGGUUAUUACAUUUUCUUUUAUAUUGUUAUUUAUAAUAUUAUGCCUUGUUUUUUUAAUAUUAGUUGCAUUUAAAAUCCAUGUGUUAUUUGGUCUUAAGAUGACUAAGGAUGAUGUAUGUCUCGUAGAUUGUGAAACCACAUACACAAUUCUUCGAGAUAAAAGAUAUUUCCUUGAAUUAACAUUGAUAAAAGCUAAUGUAUGUACCAUAAUUAGUAUUACAAACUUAGUUAAAGAAUCUGGAAUAGGAAACAUAAUGCUACCAAAUGGAACUAGAUUUCAUAUAAAUGAUGCUUUAUAUUCUAGAAAAUCCAUAAGAAAUUUGCUCAGUUUUAAAUAUAUUCGCAGAAAUGUACAUCAUAUUGAAACUAUGAAUGAAGAUAAUGUAAUUAUCUUUACAUUACUUCCAUUAUAUCUGGCCAGAAGCUUAUAAUUGAAAAACUCUCGGCUUUCUCCUCUAGGUUGUAUCAUACAACUAUAAAGCCUAUUGAAUCAUAUUUUUUCAUGAACCAGAAGUUCAACAACCCAAAAGUUUUUGUCUUUUGGCAUGAGAGACUAGGUCACCUAGGGUUUUCAAUGAUGCAUCAAAUAAUCAAACACUCACGUGGGCAUCCACUAAAGAACCUAAAGAGUCUUUUGCAUAAUGAAUACUCAUGUGCUGCUUGCUCACAAGGUAAAUUGAUAGUUAAACCAUCUUUUACUAAAGUCAUAUUUGAGUCACUAGUCUUUUUAGAAAGAAUACAUAGGAACAUAAGUGGGCCUAUCCAUCCACCAUGUAGACCAAUUCGUUAUUUUAUGAUCUUAAUAUAUGCUUCUCCUAGGUGGUCACAUGUUUGUCUCCUUUUUACAUGUAAUGUUGCCUUUGCUGGACUCCUAUCACAAAUGAUCAAAUUAUGAGCACAAUUCCAAUGUUAUCCUAAUAAGAUAAUAUGUCUUGAUAAUGUUGGCGAAUUUACUUCUCAAACAUUCAUUGACUACUGUCUAUUGGUAGGGAUAAAUAUUGACUAUCUUAUUGCUCAUACUCAUACCCAAAAUGGUUUAGCAAAAUCCUUCAUCACACGUCUCCAAUUAAUAACUCGACCAUUACUAAAGAAAACCAAAUUAUCUACUUCUGCCUAGGGACAUGCUAUUAUGCUUGUUGCAGCUUUAGAUCGUAUUCGACCUACAACUUACCAUUCCCUUCACAACUCGUACUUGAAAACAACCAAAUAUCUCACUUAUGAAUCUUUGGUUGUGCAGUAUAUGUACCAAUUGCACCUACACAUUGCAUUAAAAUGGGUCUCAAAUGAAGACUUGGGAUUUAUUUAGGUUUUAAUUCUCCAUCUAUCAUAAGAUAUUGUAAGAAAAAUUAGGCUAAUCCAACCUAAGGUAAUCACCCUAGAGAGGGUGGGGGGGGGGGGGGGUGAAUAGAGUGAUGAUCUCUUUUUGCAAAUUUAAAUUAUAUAAAUAUAAGAGAUAAUUAUAUGCAAAUAUAUAAUAAAACAAUAUAAAGACAAUUGCAUAUAAAGUAUAAGAGUAGGAAAGAGAGAAUGCAAACACUGGAUUUUUAUAGUGGUUCAGUGUAACCCAACUUACAUCCACUCUCCUCUAGCUUCAGUCCCAAGCUUGAGGUUCCACUAUUUCAAGGCUUCCAAAUCAAGCCUUCAAGCAAUAUAAUUGGAUUAUAGUUCCAAUACACGCUCUUGGAUUUUUGGCUCCAAACACCCUUUACAAUCCUUAAGAGAUACCCCACUCUUGAACAACCCCUCAUGUGAUACCCUACACUUGAGAAUUCCUAAAUGAUAUCACACAUUUAAAAUUUUCUUCUCAAAGAUUUACAAAUGAAGAUAAGAUUGAAAGGUGCACUAAUGAUAUGCAAGUUUUAGAACAAUGGUGCACUAAAAAAGACUCUCUCAAGGCUCAAAUAUAUUAAAGAAGGGUUUAAGCUCUUGAAACAAUGAAGAUUGAAACCUUUCUAUAGAGGAAAACGAUCAAACUAACCAUUGAAGGUUUGACCAGUCGAGCUAGGGGUCAACCAGUUGACUAGCCAUUAGCAUUUAAUGCUUAGUAGGUAACCGUUGGAUCUUGACCAGACCUCGAUUAGUUGAACAAGCGUUCUGGAAGAGAGAAAAGGUUUUUGCACCCGUCGACCGGUUGAGCUAAACAAGUCAACUAGUUCCUCAUCUGGUUCAACAGGUUGAGUCGUUUUUGGCUCAACAAUCAUCAUUUUCAACUUAAAACAUUUUAAACAAGUUUGAAAAACAUUUGACAUAAGGUUUUAGUUGAAAACAUGAAAUUAUUAAAUUUUAAAGGAUUUAAUACAAAAUUAAUUUUGGAUGAUUUUGGUGCAUAAAUUAAUAAUGUAAUGCAUAAAAGACCUAGUGCAUCAACAACCUUACAAAGAAAUCUUAGAAAGUUUAGGUCUUGAAAAACACUUCUUUUUUAAGUCUUUUUCUUCUUAUUGAUUACUCUUUGUCUUGAUUUUGUCUUUUUGAUUGACACUUUGGAAAUAUUCUUGCCUAAUCACACUUGAAAUAUAAUCAUUAGUGUCAAACCUUGUUUUAUUAUCAUCAAAAUCGAGAUUAACCAAACCUUGGUUUCACAAAUAUCUUGAACCUUUGACAGUCGAUGUUUUUAUAGUCUGCUUUGCAGAUUGUCAUUUUAAUGAGAGUGUUUUCCUGUCAUUAGGGAGAGAAAAUUCAAUUCCUAAAGAAUGGUGAGAAAUUACUUGGAAUGCAUCUACUAUGUUCCAUUUUGAUCCUUGUACAAAUCAAUAUGAACUAGAAGUUAAAAGGAUCAUUUAUUUGCAAAAUCUUGCAAACCAAUUACCAAAUUGUGGACCCCGCAUUUCGGCUGGCUCGAAUGCGUUUCCCACUCGAUGGCGAAACUCGAUUUUUAUUUGAAAAAUUGAUUUUUUAUUGAUUAAGAAAAAUGACUUGGAGUCGCCACUUAUUUUUGUUUUAUUUUUAAAGGGUAAACAAAAUAAGAAAGAAAACCCUAAGUGUGACUCCUGAUUUUUGGAAAAGGUGGUUUGUGAAAACCGGAUCGGGUUCGGGGGUCAGGUUACUUAUCGGGAAGGUACGGUAAAGACCGUAGCACCCCUCUAAGUCCCUAAAGUCGGGUCUCUACUAAUAGAAUGAAGCUAACAUGGCGAUGAUGAGGAAAUCAAUAAAUACUCAAAUCAAUCAUGCACAUAUGAGUAUCAAAACAUGCGUAUAGCAAGACCAGAAUAAGGACAGAUGCGUACCUGGGCAACGAUCUUCAAUGCGCUAUCAAGAAGUGAGAUUAGUGCACAAUUAAAGGAUGAUCACAUGCAUAUCAUAGAGCAGAAUAAAUCAUGUAUGGCACCCAAAUCAACCAAACAAUCCAUCAAUCAUAAAAUCUCAUAUGUUGGGCCCCCACCAAAACCCGUUUAUUUUUGCAUGAAUUAAUUCCGUAAAUUCCAUUGUUCGGAAUUACGGAAUUUAAAUUCAUGUUUAUUUUAAAACAUUUUAAAAACAAAGAAAAUGCAAAAGUGGCUUGCCGGAAAGAAAAUGGCAACCAAAUUUUAUUGAAAAUGAGAUUUUUGGUAUCUUAAAAAAAAAACGAAAGGUGAAAAAGUAGAGGAGCCGGGAUUAUUUGAAAAGAUGAAUUGAAGAUAAUAUUUACAAAACGGGACAUGGGGCAAUUGUUUUAAAAUCAAAGAUGAUGAAGAAUAAAAGAAAGGAGGACACGUGCCUAAGGCUGCAUGCAAAAAUACUUGAGUGGGGGAGUUGGUGAGGAAUGGUCGCGCAUGGAUGAAAUCCUGAUCAUAACUGUGCUUACUCGAUCAACUUGUGGAUUGGGAUCAUCAAAUUCUGAAAACCCUGCGUAAAACUCAAACCAUUGAAUGUACCACCAUCAAUCACAGCGCUGCUGACCUUCUUAAACAGCCCGUAUGGUGCCUCUAUCUCACUCACACUAAAUACUGCUUCCCUUGCCAGAGCUUCAGGAUCAUGAAGACCUCUUGCUUGAUUCUGCAGAGAAAACCUGAAGAGGAAGAGUGAAGAUGCCAGGGUACCUGAAAAUCCUCAUUAUCAAGAACAUGAGUGACAGCCUUUGCAGGCCUUUCUUGACCUUCUUGCAUUUCCAGCACAUGAGCAGCUGCAUCCCCACAACUCCCAGAUUUACCAUGUUUCCUAGCAUAGCAUGAAUCAUCAGAAUCACUGUCACCAGCACCUUCUUUGACCAUUAUCAAAUCAACCCACAGUUUCUCUUGUUUUUAGCUCUUCACUUCCGUCGUUCAGUGUAAAGCCAUUGAAAUGUUGAAGGCGCCGAGAUGGGGAAUAAGCUUGCAUGCGGGCUUAGCAACAGCCUGAUUUCCUCUUCAGUAAAUGAAACUAACAGCAGUAACCUUUAAGGGAUUGGCAAUGAGCAUCAAAUCCCAGCACAAGAACAUCCACCAGUUAUUUCUUCAAAUUUCCAUGAUCGAGGUGAACAAUGAUAGGAGUAUCAAUCCUGUACUGACAUAGCAGAGAAGAAUGAAAUCCAUUGCCAGUGAUAGUCCUCAACAAACUUUACCACAAUGCGAGAGGUGUAGCAGCCAAGGACUGGGGCAUAACCAUUUCCGAUUUUGGCCAUAGUGAUUCUUAGUUAUCAUGUCUGGAUGGCCUGGUGGAACCCUAGUAGAGACUCCAUUCCAACCACGUUUUCAGAUUCAGAAAACUCUGAUUGGAAAGAAACCUUAAGCCACACCUUGAAUUGAUAUCCAAACUUCAAUUUUUCACAAGAGAAUUUUGAUUCGCAAAAUCGGUCAAGUUCAUUUCCCUUCACUUCCCUGAAAAUCUGGAAGCUUCCUACAAAAGAUCCUCGUCUGAAGUCGAGAAGCUAGAAAGCUCAGAGAGGUUUUCCCCGUAAGACGCCAACCUCAUAUUGAGAACCUCAGUCUAUGAAUCAAGCUGCGUUUUCUCUCCUGCACCGUGCCGUGGAUGACUCCCCACUCUCUGAGGACACCAAAACUCAGGGAUGACACCCUCCGCACACCCACAUACCUCACCUAGCUUCCUGUAAAUCCCCUUCUCUAGCUCGCUUCCACUGCAUAAACCAUCUUUGCACCUGCUUGUGCUAACCAGAUCACAAGAAUGCCACUCCCAGUUCCUUUUCAAUCAAAAUCAAAUUCGAGUAACAAUUGAUCUCUCCAACCAGUUUUUCCUAUUUCAACAAUAUCUUCCGCAGCAUCAAGAAGAAUUUGGAGAUAUAUCAGCAGCCAUGGAUGAGAAUAUCUGUGAUUAAGACCAACUCGGUCAACAAAGGGAACCCACAAUUCUCUUCGCGUGAUUGCAUGGCUACACAGUCUCUGAGAAGCAUAGAUCUAAAUAGUGCACCAAACGCUUUCAUGCCUUACAAAGAGGCCACGUAGGAAUCGCCAAUACCCUGUGGCCUUGAUGCGGCUGCUAAAUGAGCUCACCACUCUGGCUGCUCGACAGGGAAAGCUGCUGGCCUGGGCACUCUUCACUUUCUGCCAGAUUGAAGGCUUACUUGAUGAAUGAGCUUCACGAAUGUACAAGGUGGAAAAGUGAGGGUGGCAACUAUAGGGUGUAAGAAAUGAGUAUGAAUGAGUCCUAUACCCGUGGGUAUAGUGAGAUAAAGCAUGAUGGAAUAGAAAUGGGCAGAGACAAUGUGGAUAUGGGACAUGGUGGAACGAGCAAAGUGGUUAGGCUAUUGAUGGUGAGCAGGGUACGGGUGAAGUGAUGUGUAUGGUGCAUGAGGGUAUAGUGAGUGGGCUAUGGAUGACAGAAUUGGUGAGAAAAAUGAGUGGAGAUAUGCUGAGUGUAAGGGAUAGGAAGGGUGAUGAGAAGUGGGUUAAUGGUGAUGUGAUAGAUAUGUGAAAUUGGAAAAUGAGAAAGGUGAUAGGUAAAAGAAAUGGGUAUGGAUAAUGGCCGGGUUUGCAUGGUUCCAUGCACAUGGGUAGAUGGACCUGGGAAGUCAACAAGGGCUUUAGAAGGAGCUUUGGACAACCAUGCAUGUGCAGAGGUAGGUAUCAAGGAGAAUUCAACCUCACUCUGAUCAUUUAGAACGGGCAAGUAUCUUAGCAGUAGCAUCCUUCAUAGUGGAUUUCUCUGCUCAUCUGGCAUGUACCAGAACGCAUCCAGCACCUUUAAAGAGUGAUCUAGCACCUUCAUUCUUCAGGAUCUGUGAGAAUGCAUCGAAAGAGCUCUUGUAUUUGACAGCUUCGCCUGAGAUCAUCAUCAUCCUUCUACGCGCUGUAUCUAUUGGGUAAUAAGCCAAUCCUGUACCUAUUGUGAUUCCUUAUCCCAGCAUGAAACUAGCCAAGAGACUAUCCCCUCAAGACAGGCCCUGGCGCAUAGUACAUCUCCACAUCUGUGUACAUCUGGGCAUAAUGCGUGUCACCCUGUUUGCGAGGCAGCUUAAAGCCUGGUUCAGGAUAUAUCAUUGUUUCGACAGGAAGCUUGUACAAUCGAUGUGGGCAGAGCCAAAUUGGGUAUACCUCCCUCUCAUGAGAUACCCAUUCUAGAGCAUCUACCUCGCCCAGAAUCUGCUCCACAAGGUAAAAUUUUCCAUAAGAAUCAUCAAAAGUAGGAUUGCUUCCUCCAGAUUAUUUCUCGGUACAUAUGAACCAUCCAUCUGAACAACUAAACUGGGUGGUGCAGCUGCAUGGAACAGUUUUGCUUGCAAUUGGGCAAUUCGUUCUUGCCUUUCUGGUGCUGGAAACCAUUCUGCUUCCUUUGGAUUCUCAUUUUCCACCUCACUAAAUAUAACCUCAGUUACACCCUGUUUGGACAUGCCAAAUUCGUCUUUCUAUGGUUCUGUUAGAAAAGCCUCUGCUUCAGGAGCUUUACCAAGUGAUCCUUUCCAAUGCGUGGAUACCUCUCCACUAAACUAUUGUAGCCUAGUGGGAACGGGAAGCCGUUGUCAUUUUCAUCCCUACUGCAUGCUCCACUCCUCUUGAAAUCUGACUCGUCUCGGUGCAGGGAGACACAGAGGCCAAAUCAACAUGAGUACAAAUAGAAGGAACCCCGACAAAGGUAAUGUGAUCAGGUUGAGUUCUUGAUUUGAAUAGCAGCCCAGAGAACUGAAGAGCCUCGUCAGCUUGGGCAUUCUGAACAUAACCAAUAAUUAGGGAAGUCCAUGGUACUAAAUCUAGUCUCAGCAUCUCAUUGAAAACAUGUCUUGUCUUCUUAAUAUUCCCACACAAUGUGUAUAUGUGAACAAGCGUACUAGCUGCAAAUGAUAACAGAUCAAACCCAAUCCUCGUCAUAUACCCAUGAACCUGCUUACCCAAUUCUUCCGCAACGAGUUUCUCCAAUCCAUAAGCAUCUUGAGACCCUCUUAACCCCCAUUGAUCAUGGAAAACUCAAGCAUGCCGAAGCUGAUCAUCAUAAUAACUGGAUGGUUGGACUACAUGAACCCCAUUCCUCCCAUAUUGGCAACAAGGUUAAACGCAUGGUCAAACCCAACAGUGACCUUCAAGCAGUUGCUCAUCACCUUGAAAUCAAUCAAGAUAGGAUUCAUGACAGAACACAUCUUCAGUCAUAGGCCCUCUCUUCUUCCAGUCAGAAGCAAUAAUGUAGUGGCCCUCCGUCUUCAGACUCCGAGCAAUAUGAAAGGCAAUAAAGCCAUCAGCACCAGUGAUUGAGAUCUGGAACUUUUCAGAUUGUUAGUGUGGUUCCUUCUCAAGCUCCUCAUAGGUGUACCCUUCGUAAGUGGCUCCAUCGGUACUUCCCAUUCUCCUCUGUUUUCUAAAAAACGACUGUGAAUACUUCCCCUCUCAAUAUCUUAAGCUUGUUGUCUUUCCACUUGUUCUACAAGAAACAUGGCAGUAUCUUGAAGAUUUCUGAUGCCAAGACCCCUCAAAGCAACCCCCGAUUUAGACAGCCAAACCCAAACAAGAUGCUCAACACUCCAAGAGAGAGAUAACAAGAACAGGGGAAAGAGAAUGAAGAAAAAUAAAUAAAUAAAUAAAAACAGAGCAUGCAUGAGGAAGAACGAUGCCUUGAAAUCCAAACUCCAUUUUCAUGAAUACUAAGAGACUUGCAAAACAAAGUGGUGGGAGAAUCUUAACACGCUAAUAAGUAGCGCAACCAUUGUAAAUACAUACAGAGAAAUAAAGAUGCUCAACAAGUAACAAUGAAAAGCAAGUUUAACAGCUUAGAUGACCAAAGCAAGCAUCCACUAUCAGUCGGAAACCUAGUAAUGCAGUAAUACUGGAGAAUUUAAAGUGAGGAAGGAUCAAACCUGAGCGGUUCCUCCCCUGCCCUGCUAACUUCCUCUCUCGGCUCCCCUCGAAAAACCUCCUCCUCCCUCUGUUUUCCUCCCAAAAUCUCUCUCUAACGGCUUGCUCUCAAACCACCCUCCUGCAGCCCCAGGUACCGUCCCCACUACCAUGCAGCUGGCAGCCCCAAAAGCACUCUCUCCUCUGCUCACCUCAACAACCUACAGCUUUUGCAGAUUCCUCCUUGCCAGGUGUCAAUCUCUGAUUGGCUUUCAAAAAAACUGUUCUGAUUCCAUGAUAGCUAAUCAGGGAUUGACACGUGGCCUCCUAGAAAUGCUCCAUCUGGCCAAAUAAGCUGCAACAAAUUCAAAAAGAAAGUGCUCCCAAAAUGGGGGUCUACAAAUAUGCCCCUCUUCGGUAGAGUUCACGAGUGUAAAGAACAUGAACACUGGAGUGAAAAGUAAGUGUGAAUAGUGAGUGCAAUGAAGUGAACUCUAUCGAAGAACCAAGGAGACCCCCAUAGGGACACUAGUGAGAUGUGAACUCACUCAGGCCAAAAGACAAACACAAAGGCUCUAAUCCUAAAAGAGAAAGAUGGGUGCCUCAAAAUGCCUCUAAAGCCACACUAAGGAUCCAAGCUCCCUCUAAAACGUCUCCAAAAGUGACCCGAAGAUCGAUGUCAAAGGUGAGUAACGGUCAAACCACCCUGGAGUACGAACAAGAAUGCGUAUAAAGGAGACUGCCCUAUGUGGACUACGAGAUGAAUAAGCGAUAAGCACAGGGUAACGAGGGGAGAGUGAGAAUAAGUGCAAAUCCAUGAAGGUGAGACGUGCAAUGCCAGAGAAUAUGAAUGCUAGGAGCUGUGACUUUGAAUGACGAGACUGACUCUAAACGCUAAACUAGAAAAAUAAUGGCUCUGGAAGCCAAACCAAAAAAAACUAACUCUAAACGCUAAACUAGAAAAUAAUAGCUCUGGAAGCCAAACCAAAAAGCUAACUCUAAACACUAAACUAGAAAAUAAGAAAAUAAAGCUCUGGAAGCCAACCAAAAAGCUAACUCUAAACACUAAACUAGAAAAUAAGAAAAUAAAGCUCUGGAAGCCAACCAAAAAGCGAACUCUAAACGCUAAAAUCGAAGGCGCAUAGGUGAAGACCUACGGUGGUGAUAAUAACUGAAACAAAGGCUCAUGGAUGAAAAUCCAUGAUGGUGAAUCUGAAAUGCCCAUAGAUGUCUGAUCUAUGGUGGUGAAAUCUGAAAUGCCCACAGAUAAAAAUCUAUGGUGGUGAUAAUCUCGAAAUGCCCAAGGAUGAAAAUCCAUGGUGGUGAUAUAAUCUCAAAAGCCCAAGGAUGAAAAUCCAUGGUGGUGAUAACUGAAUCAAAGGCUCAUGGAUGAAAAUCCAUGAUGGUGAAUCUGAAAUGCCCAUAGAUGAAAAUCUAUGGUGGUGAAAAUCUGAAACAAAGGCUCAUGGAUGAAAAUCCAUGAUGGUGAAUCUGAAAUGCCCAUAGAUGAAAAUCUAUGGUGGUGAAAAUCUGAAACAAAGGCUCAUGGAUGAAAAUCCAUGAUGGUGAAUCUGAAAUGCCCAUAGAUGUCUGAUCUAUGGUGGUGAAAACUGAAUGAAGGGGGAUGCCCUAGACAAACUAAUGGUAGGGGGAUGUCCUGAACAAGAUGACAAUAGGGGGAAUGCCCUAAACAAGAUGACAGUAGGGGGACGCCCUAGGUGAUAACUCAUAAAGAUCGACAAAUGCGUCUGACAAUCAUGAAAUCAGCACGAGACAUGGCAAACCCAAAGAGAGGGGAAUGCCCCAAGUCAAGCGCUAAAGGGGUAUGCCCCAGUGUGACGACUCACAAAGAUCAAGAAAUAGGUCGAGUAAUGAGAGAAGUCGGCAAAACGUCAAUGAACUCAAGGAUGGGGGUAUGCCCCAGUAUGACAACUCACAAAGGUCAAGAGAUAGAAUGAACAGCAAGAGAAUCUGCAAAAGAUCUGGUGAACUCAAGGAUGGGGGUAUGCCCCAGUGUAGGAUAGUAACUAACAUGAGACACGGAAUCUCACCAAACAAGACACUCUGGGAUAUGCUCAAUGAUGAUGCAAUGAAAAGGAUAUACAUAGCCUCAAUGAACAAACGCUAAAACAAGUCCAAACAUCACUGAAAUCAUGCUAACAAAGUAAAACUAAAAUAAUGGAUCAAACAAAUGCUGACCAAAACUCUAGGUCUGAAAUGGAAGCAAAUCAAAACACGACAUGUCAACUAUCAAUAUGAGUACAUCAUCACAAGUGCAUCAACAAUCUAACAGGCCCUACCAUCACGGAAGAUGUUGAACCUAAUGUCCAAAGGCAUGUGAAAGCUCGACCAGAAAGCCGAGACUAGCCCAUAUCUUCCCCUGAUCAAGAGAAAGGGAUAAGGUCAUGUAAGACGAUGAAAUAUGUGGGCUCAAAAGAUGUAAGGCUCUGAUAAGAUGGGUGCAGAUAUAAUAGUGUCCAAUGUAGGAUGUAUAGGUGUGUAACAAAGGAAAGUGGGUACCCAAAUCAAACUAGGUAUGCUAAGGAGACUGAGCCCAGGGUGCCAACAACUCUAUAAUCCAUCGAGAGCAGCGAUCAUAAACAAGAAAUGGAGUCUCAAUGUCAAAAUCAGCAAGGUGGCUAUGCCCCAGUAUGAAUGCAUCGUCUCAGAGUGGGUAAGCUCUCAAUGCAGAAUGAUCUCCGGAAAGUAAGUGUCUGGUAUAAACUGUCAUCUCACAAAAUCAUCGCCAAGACGAGUGGGGUAUGCCCUAGUGUAAGCAUCUCCAAAUCAAACAUCCAUGAGAAGAAUACAACCAAUCAUACCUCAUCUGAUCAAAAUGAACAUCUGCUCAUCAAAGCCAUCGUGGUAAUGUGAAGAGAAUAUCUGACCUCCCCCAAAGAAAAUAGCAUGUCCCAAUGUGAACAACCGCCAAUGAAAGGGUUAUGCCCCAGUAUAGGGCAAACCUUGAAAUGACUAAACUCCGCAGUAUGCUCUCAUAAGUGUCCGUGUCCUGAUCCAAUCAUCUCAAAAAUAUGUCAACAAUGAUGAGAAGGUUAUGCUCCUGUGAUCAUAUCAAAGAAAUCACCCGAUCAUAUCUCGUACUCCAAUGUGAAAUGAAUCUAAUCGCCUCCAAGGAACAUCUAUGCCUAAAAACCACCAUCGACCGAAAGGGGUAUGCCCCUGUGUAAAGUACACUAGAUGAAACGCGCCAAUCAUGUUUCAUGCUCCAAUGUGAAGAAAAAUGACAUCUGAUAUCCUCCAAGGAAUGGACAUGGCUCAAAAAUCUGUCAUCGACUGAGAAGAGUAUGCCUCGACAUAAUGGUCAUCCGAUAAUAAAACUCUCUGAGAUGGCUAUGCCCCAGUGUAAGGUCAUACCAUAACUCUCGGUCUGUCACAAUCAGAAUGCUCUCGAAUCAAUCUCAAGUAUCGCUCACAUAAGAGCUAUCAAACACAAUGUGUGAUGUCAUGGCCUCAGGGUGGUCUUAAGACUCAGGACGUAACGUAGGCUAGGGUGAUAGGGUGAUAGAAAUGAAGGGAAACUAGGCCCAAAUACCCAAUGAUCAAAACCCAUGCCCUCAUGUAUAAAAUGCAACAUGUAUAGAAAAUAUCGUGAGCCAUGGACCUGAAGAUGCCUACUGUGAACAUGGUAACAAUGAUGAUGCAAUGAAGAAAAAUCGAACUGAUGACGAGAUGUAUAAUGAUGGCGCGAAGAGGGUAUCAAACCCGAAAAUGAGGUCACUGUAAGAAUGGAAUAAGGGGUGGAAUGAAAAUGAUGAAACAGAAGUGAAAACGAGGAUGAUGAUGAAGCAUAGAAUACGAGAACAAGUGAUGAUCUGCUCAAAUCAAAUAUGAAAGGAAGUCACGUCAAUAACGAACAUAAUGAUGGAAUGGACAAUGACCCAGAGCUCCUAAGAGAAGGCCACUCAUCUCGCUCUCAAAACAUACAACAAAAUGAAUACGAAGAAUGAAAGGUCCCGAGGAGCUCACAUACGAACUCCCAUGAAUAGACAUAUCCAACAAAGCGACCCCUCGAACACUAAUAUACACAUACUGAAUGAUAGAGAAUAAUACACACAUGUGCCUCUUUUCUUUUUAUCUUUUUUUUUUUUUUUUUUUUUUCAAUCAUUUUUUUUUCAAUUUUUUUUUUUUUUUUACAUAUAUGCAAAUAUACAUGUUCUGAAUGCAAACCAAGAAAGACCCAAAGAUGGGAUCAAAAGUGAAUAAACAUGCCCUCAAAUAUCAAUAUAUCACAAACUCUCUCUAAUGAUGUGACCCUCUCAAGCCAAGGAUCCCUGGAUCAACGUCCGUAGGAUAGAUAAUGGAAAAUGACAUGACUACCCUCCAUGUAAUGAACUGAGGAUGAUCACCAUUCGGGGUGGGAGAAGAUGAAGCGAAACAAACGAUAGAUAUAAUAAAGAAGAGGAUGAAGAACCAACGAGAUGUCACGAAAUGCAAUGACGCAAUGAUAGGAAAAGAUAAUGAGAAAGAUGUGCCCCUAGGUCCAAGGCUCAUGAAACUCCUAAACAAUGCAUGCAUACACUGAAGGGCCCCUAUCCCGGUGUAGAAGGUGAGCAAGGCUAUAAGAAAUAAAAGGCUAUGAUGCUCAUGAGAGGCUCAAAGGGCUAGCAAUGGUCUAGAUGUCAAUAAAGGUAAUAGGGUGUGAGCUAACCGAAAUGAAGGCCACCCAUCUUACGACCACGGUCUCAAACAUCAUGCUAUCAAGCCCUCAAAUGAUCAAUACUAAAGAUCGAUGUCCAUCUGAUAUAACCACGUCAACCCUCUAGAAUCAUCCACCAACCGUACUCCAAAUGCAAAGUAAACUGUGAUCUCAUCAAGCAAUACUGCCCAUCACAAGCCAACUCUCAUCAUACAAUAUCAAUCUCUAUACUCACGAUAAGAUAAGUGACAGUCUCAUCAAGCAAUCGACCAAUCCUCAUAUCGUAAGCCACCCAAAUAUCAUAAGCCAACUCUCGCCAUGCCAGAUCAACCCUGGGCUCGAACUCCUCACACUCUACCUGGUCGAAUCAGAGAAGGGAUGUGUAAAGCUAGAAAAGCCGAGGAUGGAAAGGUCAUAUAACGGUCUCAAGGGUGAUGCUGUGCAAAGCUCGUAAUGGAUGGAUGUAGGUCAAAUCAAAGGCAAGGUGUGGGAAGUGAGCAAGGUACUGCUAUGAUCAUAAGAAGAUGUGUCACAGUCUCGAACUCCCUAGGUCAAAUCUCUGAUCCUAGGCUAAUAGGCUCAAUAUCCCCCAUGACAGGUCACUCCUCAAGACUACAACGUGCAAGUGAAGAAAUGCCUCAAGUAAAAAUCACAACACAUCAUAUCACAAGACACAAACACAUGUCCAUAAAGGAAAAGACAUCCAAUAGGAUAACCGAUGAGUACAUCAUGCAAAAGAAGGAUAACAAAGACAAUACUCAAGAAUCGAGUUAUAGUCUCUAAAAGUCAAAAUCAAAACAAGACUAAACAAACAAAAACAAAAACAGUGACUGGUCCUGCCAUCACAUCUCUGGCCAUAGAAGGAACAAAAUCUGAGCGCCACCUUACCAAGGUAAGUCAAUCGCCCAAAUCAAUAAGAUCAGGGAUUGCUGGUGAAGGGGUGUCUGCAUGCAUGGCCUGAGCUGAGGUAGGUAUAGAAAACAUAUCGGACUGAGGAUGCCCAAAUAUACCAGAAUCAACAAUGUCCUGUAUGGCAUGUCGUAGAGCAGUGCAACGAUCAGUGUGAUGUCCUGCUGACUGAUGGUAUAUACAAUAUAAAUCAAGUCGAAACUGUGGAGGCACAGGAUCUGGAAGUGCCCUAGGAGCCAGAGGAGCCAAAAGUCCCAUGGCUUGGAACGUCUCAAAAACUCUGCUCAGGGGUGCGCUCAAAUCUGAAAAGUGUCUCCGACAUCGUCGAUGGGGGUGAAAUCGCUCCCGAGGAACUGUAACGACCGGAGGGCCCCGAAGCUGGGAUGGAGGUCGUGCCAACAUAGCCAAUGAAAUGGAUGAGGAAUGCUGCUGGAGUACUAAAUGUGGGCGAGGUCGUGGAUGCGAGGCACCCAAAGUAACAGGUGUCGGUGAAGUCAAGUGUGGCAAUGAAGGUAUCGCUACUCCUGGAGCUCCUCUCGAUGACGAUGGAUGCUCUGACAAAAUAAGCUCAAUCCUCUCAACCCUCCGUGUCAAAUCCACCAUCAUCUCAUAAAGAGCAGUAAGAGUAAUGGGUGUGAUCUCGUCCGACAUGGUGAACCUCAACUGAAGAAGUCUAAUCUCAAUGUGCUCUGUAUCAUAACCAUCAUACCAUCAAUAUCUGCUCGGGGACCAGUCACGACACUAAAACUGUCCAAGACUCUAAAACAAACACAUGCAAAAGACAAAACAAAGCAACACAAGAUGCUAACACAAGAUAACAACACAUAAAAUACAUGAUACGAAACAAUGAUAAUAAUAAAAUAAAAAAGACAAAAACAAUACCCAAGAAAACAACAAUAUCACUAAGUGAAAUGAGAGUACAUCAUGCAAAAUAAUAGGACAACAAAGGUCUACUCUCGAAGCACAAGGUGCGAACUCAAAACACUAACUAUAAAACAAGACUCAAAUACAAAAUAAAAGAGAACAAAAACUCAAACGACCAACUAACAAUGUAGUCCCAAAACACACCAACAAGGUAUGCAAUAUCAAAGUGUCUGGUGAAUAUCAGUGCCCUAGGUGUCCAAAAUGUGAUGGUAUAAGCCCGAAGGAGGAGGAACUGCAUGUGUGGACUAAGCUGGAAAGGAAUCAGUAGACAUAUCUGGACCAAGAUCAGUGUCUGUAGUCGAUAUGGGAAAGCUAACUGCACCACUGUCAAUAAGAUCUUGUAUGGUGUGACGCAGAGAAGCACAAUAAUCAGUACGGUGGCCCGCCAUCUGGUGAAAUGCACAGAACUCAUGAGCAUGAAAACGCGGAGGCAAGGUACUCGGGAGUGGCCUAGGGGCCAAUGGUACUAAAACACCAGUAGAUCGGAGUCGCUCAAAAGCUCUAUCCAAAGGUAUCCCUAAAUCAGAAUAAGUCCUCUGAUGUCGCCGAUGGGGACGAGACUGCUCAUGCCGUGGGAUGCCAGUCUGUGGACGCUGAAACUGAAAUGAAGGUCGCACCAUGACAGCAUGAGGAUGCGUAGAAGGGUACAACUGAACUGGAUGAGGAUGACGAUGCUGUAAAGGUGGGAAAUCACUCCUGGGUAUCUGCAAUGAUCUCGCAUAGGAAUGAUAACCAGGUCGUCGAUGCUGAAAGUCCGUAGAACAUAUGUCUCCAUAGCCCUCAGAUGAUCCACCAACUCUCUUUCCCUCAGUAUCUGGGGAAGGAAUAAUAUAUGACCAUAAUCCUCUAGAUAUGCCAUCAUCUACAUCGAAUAAAGCCUGAACCAAUGAUCUGAAAUCCUGGAAUGGGACCCCUGUCAGAUGUCGAGCAAACCUAGGAUGCAAGCUCCUCAAAAACAUGCUCAUCUGAUCUCUCUCGGUAGGUCGCUCAAUCAUCUCCGCAGCCUUCUCCCUCCAACGAGAGAUAAAAGAAGAAAUAGGCUCAUCUGAUCCCUGUCUAAGAAACUCAAGCUCUCUACGUGUAACGCUCGUAUCACCACCGAAUGAAUACUGUCUCAGAAACUCCUGUGCUAAGUCCUCCCAAGUUCUCCGACGAGAUGACUCUAAUGAAGCAUACCAUCUCUGUGUCAUGCCGCUCAAUGACAAUGGGAACAAAGUGAGCAACUGUGCCUCAUCUAGACCAAGGGCCCUCAUAACCGUGCUAUAAAGUCUGAGAUGAAUACGAGGACAUCCGACACCCGUAUAUCUCUCUAUAUCAGGCAUCCUGAAACCAACUGGCAGAGUGGCCACUGGCACAUCGUCAGGGUCCUCCCAUGAGAUCAUCUCAUCAGGGUCUCUCAUCUGUCUAAUCCUCCGCUCAAGUCUGUCCAUACGAGAACGAGGAUCCUCAAUGAUGGUAACUGGUGUGACAAUGGGUGGAGUGACAGCAGCCUGAUCCUGUGAAGUAGUAUGCGAAGUCGGUGUAGUUGGCAUCUGAACAGGUAGAACAGGUGGUGUCACUAAAUCAGAUGGCGUGUCCUCGAGCACUACGUGCCUACUCUACUGAGUAUCCAUCCUCUAGCUCAAACUGGUCAAUGCCUCCUGAAUCGAAACCACAGAAGUGAUAAGCUAACCAAUCGAAACUGACUGUGAAUCUGUCUAUAGCAGCUCAACGAUACGAAUCAACAUCUCUCUCACUCAACCCAGGGCACUGAACUAAGACUGGGACCACAAAUAGACUCCUAUAGAAGAGCCAAUCAAAACGACUCAAACACGACUCAUGCAACGACACGGGAUGCAACGAACAAUGACCAAUGCAUGAUACAACACAAUCCACAACAUGACAGGACGCGACACACAAUCAUAUGGUGACAAUCAAAAUUUGGAUAGACGAUAGAAUCUCUAGAGUCACAUGAGUGUCCAAUGUGAGACAACUACAAAUAUGACUAAAGAAUUUCUAUCGAUAAUCCAGAAAAUGAUCGAGGUGUGAAGAAAAUAAAUGGGGUGUGAAGAACAACACUAUCACGAGAUCGAUACUCAAUCUAUAACAAAACAUCCCUUGAUUUUGACCUUCAACUCGGGCUCCAUAGGAGAAGAAAACGAUAAGGUGAUCCAGGCGAAUCUCUCGAAAAAUGUGUGAAUAUGAAAAUAUGCCUUUCACCUUUCUGUAAUGAAAAUAUGAGCAUCGAGUCGAAAAUCGAACCAAGGAUCAAACAAAGAAUGAGGUACUGAGCCCGUGAUAGGUGUACAGUGCAAAAAGAUGGUCAAUGAACAUAUCCCAAAGUAUCGAGAAGUGACGACAAAGUGAAGAGGUGUGCCGAGCCAAGAAAUGAUAACGAAGGCCCUAGGGAGAAAACAUGCCAAACUCAUCGAGUGAAAAACACAAACUAAGGCGACAAGACGAAAGGUGACCCAACCGUACUCAAACUCAUACCGAUCUCCGAGCACUCUCAACUGGAGACUAAAAAGAGGGAGUGUCAAAUCCGAAGUGUAACCACAGAGGCUCUGAAAGCCCUCAGAUGCACCCACGUGUAGGGAGGGAGUCCUAAUCGAAGGAUCUACGGCUCAACCUAUGAGGUCAAGGUGGCUCUAAAUGGAUAUGGGUGGACUUUAAAACAUCCCUAGCAGAAGCGAUCAUACCCUCCGGCGGUACGCAACCCUCUGCACGCCUCCGAAGAGACGGGGCGCUUCCAUGCAAGGUGGUCAUCACCUCCACACAUGCACUACCUCGCAUCCCAGGGGGUUUCCUAUGGUGAAACCUCUCAAACUCUCAACGCUCAAUGGUCGACUAGAGUGCACAAUGAAUGGUGUGGGUGCAUCCGAAAACCCUAGGAAGCUAAAACAGAAGAGGAAACACACUGGCUACACAAAUAUCCAUGAAACCUAGCUCCGGGCUAUACAGGUCUUCAAUGAUCGGACUCCAAUCGACAUCAAAGUGUCGCUCUCCUCCAGAAUGCUCCCGUGCAUCGAUAUAGCCCGUCGCUAGACCCUACUCCUAAUCUCUGGCUCGGUCAGAGAGCAAACACACAGAAGGUCUCACACUUGCAAUAGUGAGAACUGGGAUGAAAGGAAUGACCGAAACCAAGAGAGUUGGAGGUAAGGGGAUAUAUAUGCGGCCCACAGAGACAGGCGACAUGCAAUCAUGCAGAGGAAGGGCAGUCAUGCAUCAUAUAGUCAAUCAGAGUACAAGAUAUAUCAUUCAUGCACGCAUACAAGCUAUGAGAAUCAAGAUGAAUAGUGAUAAGAAUACCAUGCUCAAAAGACGAUCAAGAUAAUAUGCAAGCCAGAGAAUCGACAUGUCAAAUCAAACCAACAACGAAUCCAUACAUGCAAGGCGGUCAGAAUAAUCAUGGCAAAUAUCAAAAUCACUAUACUAAGCGAAAUAAGAUAAGCAAUCAAUACAAUCAGCAUGCCAAUACCUCAAACGAGCAUGACAAUCAAGCAUAGAGAAAAUAGCUGUCUCAGAAUCCUCUAUCAAUACGAAUCAAUCAUCGUAAUCAAUAUGUCAAAUAUCUCAAACAAAAUAUAUCAAUGAAGCACAAAGAAAAAUCACUGUGUCAAAAUCCCUAAUCAAGAUAAUCGACUAAUAUGAUCAAUCAUGUCAACGUCCCAAGUGAAAACUCGAGAACCCUCAAUGUGCAAUCAAGAAGUGAGUACCCACUGAUAGACUCAUCAAAUACCAUGUUUGCUUCAUCUUAAGUUCAAGCUUGACCCUCUAAUGAUCCCCAGUGGAGUCACCAUUUUGUGGACCCCGCAUUUCGGCUGGCUCGAAUGCGUUUCCCACUCGAUGGCGAAACUCGAUUUUUAUUUGAAAAAUUGAUUUUUUAUUGAUUAAGAAAAAUGACUUGGAGUCGCCACUUAUUUUUGUUUUAUUUUUAAAGGGUAAACAAAAUAAGAAAGAAAACCCUAAGUGUGACUCCUGAUUUUUGGAAAAGGUGGUUUGUGAAAACCGGAUCGGGUUCGGGGGUCAGGUUACUUAUUGGGAAGGUACGGUAAAGACCGUAGCACCCCUCUAAGUCCCUAAAGUCGNNNNNNNNNNNNNNNNNNNNNNNNNNNNNNNNNNNNNNNNNNNNNNNNNNNNNNNNNNNNNNNNNNNNNNNNNNNNNNNNNNNNNNNNNNNNNNNNNNNNCAUCCCAGGGGUUUCUAUGGUGAAACCUUCAAACUCUCAACGCUCAAUGGUCGACUAGAGUGCACAAUGAAUGGUGUGGGUGCAUCCGAAAACCCUAGGAAGCUAAACAGAAGAGGAAACACACUGGCUACACAAUAUCCAUGAAACCUAGCUCCGGGCUAUACAGGUCUUCAAUGAUCGGACUCCAAUCGACAUCAAAGUGUCGCUCUCCUCCAGAAUGCUCCCGUGCAUCGAUAUAGCCCGUCGCUAGACCCUACUCCUAAUCUCUGGCUCGGUCAGAGAGCAAACACACAGAAGGUCUCACACUUGCAAUAGUGAGAACUGGGAUGAAAGGAAUGACCGAAACCAAGAGAGUUGGAGGUAAGGGGAUAUAUAUGCGGCCCACAGAGACAGGCGACAUGCAAUCAUGCAGAGAAAGGGCAGUCAUGCAUCAUAUAGUCAAUCAGAGUACAAGAUAUAUCAUUCAUGCACGCAUACAAGCUAUGAGAAUCAAGAUGAAUAGUGAUAAGAAUACCAUGCUCAAAAGAUGAUCAAGAUAAUAUGCAAGCCAGAGAAUCGACAUGUCAAAUCAAACCAACAACGAAUCCAUACAUGCAAGGCGGUCAGAAUAAUCAUGGCAAAUAUCAAAAUCACUAUACUAAGCGAAAUAAGAUAAGCAAUCAAUACAAUCAGCAUGCCAAUACCUCAAACGAGCAUGGCAAUCAAGCAUCGAGAAAAUAGCUAUCUCAGAAUCCUCUAUCAAUACGAAUCAAUCAUCGUAAUCAACAUGUCAAAUAUCUCAAACAAAAUAUAUCAAUGAAGCACAAAGAAAAAUCACUGUGUCAAAAUCCCUAAUCAAGAUAAUCGACUAAUAUGAUCAAUCAUGUCAACGUCCCAAGUGAAAACUCGAGAACCCUCAAUGUGCAAUCAAGAAGUGAGUACCCACUGAUAGACUCAUCAAAUACCAUGUUUGCUUCAUCUUAAGUUCAAGCUUGACCCUCUAAUGAUCCCCAGUGGAGUCACCAUUUUGUGGACCCCGCAUUUCGGCUGGCUCGAAUGCGUUUCCCACUCGAUGGCGAAACUCGAUUUUUAUUUGAAAAAUUGAUUUUUUAUUGAUUAAGAAAAAUGACUUGGAGUCGCCACUUAUUUUUGUUUUAUUUUUAAAGGGUAAACAAAAUAAGAAAGAAAACCCUAAGUGUGACUCCUGAUUUUUGGAAAAGGUGGUCUGUGAAAACCGGAUCGGGUUCGGGGGUCAGGUUACUUAUCGGGAAGGUACGGUAAAGACCGUAGCACCCCUCUAAGUCCCUAAAGUCGGGUUUCUACUAAUAGAAUGAAGCUAACAUGGCGAUGAUGAGGAAAUCAAUAAAUACUCAAAUCAAUCAUGCACAUAUGAGUAUCAAAAGAUGCGUAUAGCAAGACCAGAAUAAGGACAGAUGCGUACCUGGGCAACGAUCUUCAAUGCACUAUCAAGAAGUGAGAUUAGUGCACAAUUAAAGGAUGAUCACAUGCAUAUCAUAGAGCAGAAUAAAUCAUGUAUGGCACCCAAAUCAACCAAACAAUCCAUCAAUCAUAAAAUCUCAUAUGUUGGGCCCGCACCAAAGCCUGUUUAUUUUUGCAUGAAUUAAUUCCGUAAAUUCCAUUGUUCGGAAUUACGGAAUUUAAAUUCAUGUUUAUUUUAAAACAUUUUCAAAACAAAGAAAAUGCAAAAGUGGCUUGCCGGAAAGAAAAUGGCAACCAAAUUUUAUUGAAAAUGAGAUUUUUGGUAUCUUAAAAAAAAAACGAAAGGUGAAAAAGUAGAGGAGCCGGGAUUAUUUGAAAAGAUGAAUUGAAGAAAAUAUUUACAAAACGGGACAUGGGGCAAUUGUUUUAAAAUCAAAGAUGAUGAAGAAUAAAAGAAAGGAGGACACGUGCCUAAGGCUGCAUGCAAAAAUACUUGAGUGGGGGAGUUGGUGAGGAAUGGUCGCGCAGGGAUGAAAUCCUGAUCAUAACUGUGCUUACUCGAUCAACUUGUGGAUUGGGAUCAUCAAAUUCUGAAAACCCUGCUUAAAACUCAAACCAUUGAAUGUACCACCAUCAAUCACAGCGCUGCUGACCUUCUUAAACAGCCCGUAUGGUGCCUCUAUCUCACUCACACUAAAUACUGCUUCCCUUGCCAGAGCUUCAGGAUCAUGAAGACCUCUUGCUUGAUUCUGCAGAGAAAACCUGAAGAGGAAGAGUGAAGAUGCCAGGGUACCUGAAAAUCCUCAUUAUCAAGAACAUGAGUGAUAGCCUUUGCAGGCCUUUCUUGACCUUCUUGCAUUUCCAGCACAUGAGCAGCUGCAUCCCCACAACUCCCAGAUUUACCAUGUUUCCUAGCAUAGCAUGAAUCAUCAGAAUCACUGUCACCAGCACCUUCUUUGACCAUUAUCAAAUCAACCCACAGUUUCUCUUGUUUUUAGCUCUUCACUUCCGUCGUUCAGUGUAAAGCCAUUGAAAUGUUGAAGGCGCCAAGAUGGGGAAUAAGCUUGCAUGCGGGCUUAGCAACAGCCUGAUUUCCUCUUCAGUAAAUGAAACUAACAGUAGUAACCUUUAAGGGAUUGGCAAUGAGCAUCAAAUCCCAGCACAAGAACAUCCACCAGUUAUUUCUUCAAAUUUCCAUGAUCGAGGUGAACAAUGAUAGGAGUAUCAAUCCUGUACUGACAUAGCAGAGAAGAAUGAAAUCCAUUGCCAGUGAUAGUCCUCAACAAACUUUACCACAAUGCGAGAGGUGUAGCAGCCAAGGACUGGGGCAUAACCAUUUCCGAUUUUGGCCAUAGUGAUUCUUAGUUAUCAUGUCUGGAUAGCCUGGUGGAACCCUAGUAGAGACUCCAUUCCAACCACGUUUUCAGAUUCAGAAAACUCUGAUUGGAAAGAAACCUUAAGCCACACCUUGAAUUGAUAUCGAAACUUCAAUUUUUCACAAGAGAAUUUUGAUUCGCAAAAUCGGUCAAGUUCAUUUCCCUUCACUUCCCUGAAAAUCUGGAAGCUUCCUACAAAAGAUCCUCAUCUGAAGUCGAGAAGCUAGAAAGCUCAGAGAGGUUUUCCCCGUAAGACGCCAACCUCAUAUUGAGAACCUCAGUCUAUGAAUCAAGCUGCGUUUUCUCUCCUGCACCGCGCCGUGGAUGACUCCCCACUCUCUGAGGACACCAAAACUCAGGGAUGACACCCUCCGCAAACCCACAUACCUCACCUAGCUUCCUAUAAAUCCCCUUCUCUAGCUCGCUUCCACUGCAUAAACCGUCUUUGCACCUGCUUGUGCUAACCAGAUCGCAAGAAUGCCACUCCCAAUUCCUUUUCAAUCAAAAUCAAAUUCGAGUAACAAUUGAUCUCUCCAACCAGUUUUUCCUAUUUCAACAAUAUCUUCCGCAGCAUCAAGAAGAAUUUGGAGAUAUAUCAGCAGCCAUGGAUGAGAAUAUCUGUGAUUAAGACCAACUCGGUCAACAAAGGGAACCCACAAUUCUCUUCGCGUGAUUGCAUGGCUACAUAGUCUCUAAGAAGCAUAGAUCUAAAUAGUGCACCAAACGCUUUCAUGCCUUACAAAGAGGCCACGUAGGAAUCGCCAAUACCCUGUGGCCUUGAUGCGGCUGCUAAAUGAGCUCACCACUCUGGCUGCUCGACAGGGAAAGCUGCUGGCCUGGGCACUCUUCACUUUCUGCCAGAUUGAAGGCUUACUUGAUGAAUGAGCUUCACGAAUGUACAAGGUGGAAAAGUGAGGGUGGCAACUAUAGGGUGUAAGAAAUGAGUAUGAAUGAGUCCUAUGCCCGUGGGUAUAGUGAGAUAAAGCAUGAUGGAUGAGAAAUGGGCAGAGACAAUGUGGAUAUGGGACAUGGUGGAACGAGCAAAGUGGUUAGGCUAUUGAUGGUGAGUAGGGUACGGGUGAAGUGAUGUGUAUGGUGCAUGAGGGUAUAGUGAGUGGGCUAUGGAUGACAGAAUUGGUGAGAAAAAUGAGUGGAGAUAUGCUGAGUGUAAGGGAUAGGAAGGGUGAUGAGAAGUGGGUUAGUGGUGAUGUGAUAGAUAUGUGAAAUUGGAAAAUGAGAAAGGUGAUAGGUAAAAGAAAUGGGUAUGGAUAAUGGCCGGGUUUGCAUGGUUCCAUGCACAUGGGUAGAUGGAUCUGGGAAGUCAACAAGGGCUUUAAAAGGAGCUUUGGACAACCAUGCAUGUGCAGAGGUAGGUAUCAAGGAGAAUUCAACCUCACUCUGAUCAUUUAGAACGGGCAAGUAUCUUAGCAGUAGCAUCCUUCAUAGUGGAUUUCUCUGCUCAUCUGGCAUGUACCAGAACGCAUCCAGCACCUUUAAAGAGUGAUCUAGCACCUUCAUUCUUCAGGAUCUGUGAGAAUGCAUCGAAAGAGCUCUUGUAUUUGACAGCUUCGCCUGAGAUCAUCAUCAUCCUUCUACGCGCUGUAUCUAUUGGGUAAUAAGCCAAUCCUGCACCUAUUGUGAUUCCUUAUCCCAGCAUGAAACUAGCCAAGAGACUAUCCCCUCAAGACAGGCCCUGGCGCAUAGUACAUCUCCACAUCUGUGUACAUCUGGGCAUAAUGCGUGUCACCCUGUUUGCGAGGCAGCUCAAAGCCUGGUUCAGGAUAUAUCAUUGUUUCGACAGGAAGCUUGUACAAUCGAUGUGGGCAGAGCCAAAUUGGGUAUACCUCCCUCUCAUGAUAUACCCAUUCUAGAGCAUCUACCUCGCCCAGAAUCUGCUCCACAAGGUAAAAUUUUCCAUAAGAAUCAUCAAAAGUAGGAUUGCUUCCUCCAGAUUAUUUCUCGGUACAUAUGAACCAUCCAUCUGAACAGCUAAACUGGGUGGUGCAGCUGCAUGGAACAGUUUUGCUUGCAAUUGGGCAAUUCGUUCUUGCCUUUCUGGUGCUGGAAACCAUUCUGCUUCCUUUGGAUUCUCAUUUUCCACCUCACUAAAUAUAACCUCAGUUGCACCCUGUUUGGACAUGCCAAAUUCGUCUUUCUAUGGUUCUGUUAGAAAAGCCUCUGCUUCAGGAGCUUUACCAAGUGAUCCUUUCCAAUGCGUGGAUACCUCUCCACUAAACUAUUGUAGCCUAGUGGGAACGGGAAGCCGUUGUCAUUUUCAUCCCUACUGCAUGCUCCACUCCUCUUGAAAUCUGACUCGUCUCGGUGCAGGGAGACACAGAGGCCAAAUCAACAUGAGUACAAAUAGAAGGAACCCCGACAAAGGUAAUGUGAUCAGGUUGAGUUCUUGAUUUGAAUAGCAGCCCAGAGAACUGAAGAGCCUCGUCAGCUUGGGCAUUCUGAACAUAACCAAUAAUUAGGGAAGUCCAUGGUACUAAAUCUAGUCUCAGCAUCUCAUUGAAAACAUGUCUUGUCUUCUUAAUAUUCCCACACAAUGUGUAUAUGUGAACAAGCGUACUAGCUGCAAAUGAUAACAGAUCAAACCCAAUCCUCGUCAUAUACCCAUGAACCUGCUUACCCAAUUCUUCCGCAACGAGUUUCUCCAAUCCAUAAGCAUCUUGAGACCCUCUUAACCCCCAUUGAUCAUGGAAAACUCAAGCAUGCCGAAGCUGAUCAUCAUAAUAACUGGAUGGUUGGACUAGAUGAACCCUAUUCCUCCCAUAUUGGCAACAAGGUUAAACGCAUGGUCAAACCCAAUAGUGACCUUCAAGCAGUUGCUCAUCACCUUGAAAUCAAUCAAGAUAGGAUUCAUGACAGAACACAUCUUCAGUCAUAAGCCCUCUCUUCUUCCAGUCAGAAGCAAUAAUGUAGUGGCCCUCCGUCUUCAGACUCCGAGCAAUAUGAAAGGCAAUAAAGCCAUCAGCACUAGUGAUUGAGAUCUGGAACUUUUCAGAUUGUUAGUGUGGUUCCUUCUCAAGCUCCUCAUAAGUGUACCCUUCGUAAGUGGCUCCAUCGGUACUUCCCAUUCUCCUCUGUUUUCUCAAAAACGACUGUGAAUACUUCCCCUCUCAAUAUCUUAAGCUUGUUGUCUUUCCACUUGUUCUACAAGAAACAUGGCAGUAUCUUGAAGAUUUCUGAUGCCAAGACCCCUCAAAGUAACCCCCGAUUUAGACAGCCAAACCCAAACAAGAUGCUCAACACUCCAAGAGAGAGAUAACAAGAACAGGGGAAAGAGAAUGAAGAAAAAUAAAUAAAUAAAUAAAAACAGAGCAUGCAUGAGGAAGAACGAUGCCUUGAAAUCCAAACUCCAUUUUCACGAAUACUAAGAGACUUGUAAAACAAAGUGGUGGGAGAAUCUUAACACGCUAAUAAGUAGCGCAACCAUUGUAAAUACAUACAGAGAAAUAAAGAUGCUCAACAAGUAACAAUGAAAAGCAAGUUUAACAGCUUAGAUGACCAAAGCAAGCAUCCACUAUCAGCCGGAAACCUAGUAAUGCAGUAAUACUGGAGAAUUUAAAGUGAGGAAGGAUCAAACCUGAGCGGUUCCUCCCCUGCCCUGCUAACUUCCUCUCUCGGCUCCCCCCGAAAAACCUCCUCCUCCCUCUGUUUUCCUCCCAAAAUCUAUCUCUAACGGCUUGCUCUCAGACCACCCUCCUGCAGCCCUAGGUACCGUCCCCACUACCAUACAGCUGGCAGCCCCAAAAGCACUCUCUCCUCUGCUCCCCUCAACAACCUGCAGCUUUUGCAGAUUCCUCCUUGCCAGGUGUCAAUCUCUGAUUGGCUUUCAAAAACACUGUUCUGAUUCCAUGAUAGCCAAUCAGGGAUUGACACGUGGCCUCCUAGAAAUGCUCCAUCUGGCCAAAUAAGCUGCAACAAAUUCAAAAAGAAAGUGCUCCCAAAAUGGGGGUCUACACAAAUGCAUUCAUUAAUACAAAGAAAGUGACAAAGUCACAUAUCCCGACUACAAAUACUCCAACACAGAUUGAUGUCACUGUAGAACAAUUAACAAAUGAAUCUAAGAUUUGCUUGAAGCAUGGUAGACUUGUCAGCUCAAAGGAUAUAACUUCCUAGAAGAUGAGAACACAAGAAAAACUUUGUACUUUAGAAGAGGUCGUUAAAAUGACUGAUUAAUCUAAAAUUGAUAAAUCUAUAGCCCCAAAAGAGGCACGAAUAAUGCAAAAAGCACCUGAAGAGGCACAUAUUGAACAAAAAGCUCUUGAAAAGGCACAUAUUGAACAAGAAGCCCUUGAAGAGGCACAAAUACCUAAAAAUUGUGAGAUUUUAGUAAGUUAUGUACACAUGGGAGUAAAAUGGGAUUUAAAUAAUAUUACAAUUAACAAUAUUUUUCACUUUUCAAGUGGCCCAUGUAUCAUAAGAAAUGAUGAAGAUUCCAAACCAUGAAAUAUGGAAGAAUGCCGACAUAGAAAUGAUUGGCCAAAAGGGAAAGAAACUAUGCAAGAAAAGUUAAACUUAUUAACAAAACGAGAAUUGUUUGGACUUAUACUCUAAACACUUGAAGAAGUAAAACCUGUUAGGUAAAAAUGGGUAUUUGUAUGAAAACACAAUGAGAGUAAUGAAAUCAUAAGAUAUAAAGGCGAUUAGUAGCACAAGGUUUCUUUUAGAGACCAGGUAUUGACUACGAGAAAACAUACUCUCCCAUCAUGGACGCAAUCACAUUUCAUUUCUUAAUUAGUUUGGUAGUCUCAUAAGGACUAGAUAUGUGUCUCAUGGACGUUAUUACAACAUAUUUAUAUAGAUCCAUAGAUAAUGAUAUAUAUAAGAAAAUCCCUGGAGGAUUUAAAUUGCCUGAAACAAAUAAUACAAAGACUUGUAACAUGUACUCAAUCAAGUUACAAUGAUCCUUGUAUGGAUUAAAGUAAGUCGGACGCAUGUUGUACAAUCACCUUAGUAAAUACUUACUAAAAGAAGGGUAUGUGAAUAACCCUAUAUGUCCAUGCAUCUUCAUUAAGAAAUCAGAAACCGGAUUUGCAAUUAUUGUAGUGUAUGUUAAUGACUUAAAUCUUAUUGGAACUCCUAAAGAACUCAUAAAAACAAAAAAAUUACUUAAAAAAGGAAUUUGAGAUGAAAGAUCUUGGAAAAACAAAAUUUUCUAUUGUUAUCAAAUCGAGCAUUUUCCAAAUGGAGUUUUAGUACAUUAAGAAAAUUUUAAAGCAUUUUUAUAUGGAUAAAGUGCAUCCUUUAACUUCUCCAAUAGUUUUCUAAUCAUUUGAUGUGAAAAAGGACCCAUUCCGGCCUUGCAAAAAAUGUGAAGAAUUACUUGGUCCUAAAGUACCAUAUAUUAGUGCUAUUGGUGCACUUAUAUAUCUUGCCAAUUGUACAUGUCUAAACAUUCAUUUUUUUGUCAAUUUAUUAGCAAGAUACAGUUCCACUCCAACUCAAAGACAUUGAAAUGGUAUCAAACAUAUAUUGUGCUAUCUUUGCAGAACUAUUGAUGUGGGUCUAUUUUACUCAAGGGAAUCAAGUAAAAAUUGCAUAAAUAUACAGAUGCAGGAUACUUUUCAUAUCCACAUAAAGGUAGGUCACAAACAGGGUAUAUGGUUAAUUGCAAUGAUACUACUAUUUCAUGGAGAUUUGUCAAACAAAUAAUGAUGGCCACAUUAUCAAAUCAUUCAAAAAUUCUUGUAAUUCGUGAAGCAAGUUGUGAAUGUAUAUGACUAAGAUCUAUAAUCCAAUAUAUUCGGGAACCAUGUGGACUCUUAUCUAUCAAGAGUGAUCCGACAAUAUUAUUUGAAAAUAAUGUUGCAUGCAUUGCACAAAUAACAGGGGGUCAUAUUAAAAGAGAUAGAACUAAACACAUUUCAUCAAAUUUCUUUUAUACACAUGAACAUCAAAAGAGUGGUGAAAUUGAUGUGUAACAAAUACGCUCAAGUGAUAAUCUAGUAGAUUUAUUCACAAAGUCAUUGCCAACCUCAACAUUCAAGAAGUUAAUACACAAGAUUGGAAUGCAUCAACUCAAGGAUAUCGACAUGAGGGUGAGUAUGCUUGUAAAAGGAUGUUAGUGUACUAUACUUUUUUUCCCUUCGUCUAGGUUUUAUCCCGUUAGGUUUUACUAGCAAGGUUUUUAAUGAGACAGUCCUAACAUAUCAAGAGCAACUUAAAGAAUUAUUAGAAUAUUGUACUCUUUUUCCUUCGCUAGGUUUUUCCUAUAGGGUUUUUUACUAGCAAGGUUUUAAUGAGACAUAUUCUUCUAAUGUGGUGGACAUCCAAGGAAAAGUGUUAUAAAUGAAGUAAUGAAUACCACCACAUUUAUUAUAUUAAAUCUUCAUUAAUAUUAUUUAUGACUUCCAUUAAUAUUCAUUAAUGGAAGCCAUUUGGAAAGCUUAUAAAACAGUUUCCAAUCCCCUAUAAGAUGUAUCCCAAGGAAAGAAAGAAAUCCUCUCUCUUAUUCUUUAUGUAUUUCAUUCUUUCAACUCAAUUAAUUCUCUUUUCUGGUUCUUUCCUCCCCAUUAUAUUAUUAUUAAAAUAGUAUAUAGUUGUUCUCUGUUUUUAUUUGCAUUGCAUUUAUCCUCGUUUUACAACACUUAUUUUUUUCUUUUCUCUAUUUUUUUCUUCUUCUAGUUAUUAUUAUUAUUAUUAUUAUUAUUAUUAUUAUUAUUAUUAUUAUUAUUGUUGUUGUUGUUGUUAUUGUUAUUUUAUAAACAUAAUAUAACCUAUCAAAAAAUAAUAAUAAUAAUAAUAACACAUAUAUAAAUAAUAUAAUAAUUAAUUUACAAAUUAUUGUUUCAUUAGUUAUUAUUAUUGUUAUUAUUAUUAUAAUUAUUAUUUCAAAAAAUUUUAAAUAUUAUGUAUAACUUAUACAAUAAGAAUAAUAAUAAAAUAAUUUUACAAAUAUUGUUUCAUUCAUGUAUUGAAGACAAAGUUUUCUUAUAUAAACUUUCAUAAAUUAUCAAUUGUUUUUUACAAUAUGAUUAUUAAGAAAAUAUUACAAUAAAAAAUUAGUAUUGAUAAUUAUGAAAAAACAAAAUUAAAGCAUGUGUUAUUGUACUUUUAGUGUACUUAUAUUGUAAUUUCAAUGCAUAACUAUGACACAUACAUUUUGGAACAAACUUAUUAGUGUUCGAAGCAUUGUCUUUAUUCUACUAUAUUGAUUUCUAUAUUAGUAAGGCAUCCCAAUGAAUUAGCAUCAUAUACUAGAUGCAUUCUUAUCAGCAAUAAUUCUUAUAAUGAAACUCAUACACCUUAUAAAAAAAAUGUCUUAUAAGGUUAAUUUAUAGUAGAUGAAAUAUUAAAAAAUAUAUAAAAUAUGUGACAGCCAUUCAUCAAUGCUUGUUUAAAAGGAAAAUUUUAAAAUAAAGUUAGGUUAUGCAGUAAUGUAUAAGACAUUUAAAGUAUUCAUGUUGUAAGAUCAUUAUAUUUUUGUGGUACGUGUACAUUGGCUUUUAUAUUAAUACAUAAUAUCGGUGUACUAGCAUUAUACAUUUAAUGAAUCAUUAUUGUGCAUGAUUUUUAUAAUAAACCUAUAAGUUUUAAGAAUUAGAUGAAAGAAAAAUUAUAUUCUAAGAUUGGUUUAUAAUCAAUGACAUUAUAAUAAUAAAAAUAUGAAUAAUGAUACAUAUGGAAUAUUAAUGAUAUAAAACUAAUAUCAUAAAUAAUAAUAUUAAUAAUAUGUUAAUAAUGAUGAUAAUAAUAAAUAUAUAAUUAUAAUUUUUUUUUAAUAAAUAACAUAGUUAGUCUUAACAUAGAGUAAAUAAAGCACAAAAGGUUGAAAAGAAAAGUAGAAAAGUAAAGUUAUAUGGGAGUAGAAGGAAAAGACAAAAUGAUGUAAUUGGAAUUAUGGAAUGAUCAAAUUAUCAAACUAUAACUUGUGAAUUUGACAAGACUUUGAGACUUGGUGACCCUUGAGGGAGCUUAUCAUCACUUUGAGCUAGGUGACCAUUUUUUUUAAAAAAAAAAAUCGAAAAUAAAGGCCAUGAAAAAUUUAUUUAUAAAGAAUAAUAACAAUUUUGUAUUUUUUUUAUACAAAUUAGAUAUUUAAUUUAUUAGAAUAAUUUUGGUGGUAAUGACAAACAAAAUAACUCCUUAAAUAGGUGAAAUAAUUCAUUUUCUCAAUUUUAUAUGCAAAAGUAUUUUAAAACAAAAAGGAUAAUACAUUAUUUUUGUUCAUCAAUCCACAUUUUGACUUCCAUUUUAAAAUCCAUCUAUAAAAAUCUCUCUUUAUAAAUAUCUGCCUAGAUUGCCUAAUCAUCUAUUUGUUCAUUGUCUAUAACUUCUUGCCUGAUUAUCAAUUUAGAUGUUCAUAUUUGCGUAUAUUUAUUCAUUCCACCAUGGAUUUUGUUGGCUUAUUUGUAAUGUAUACAAUUUUGAUGAAUUGUUUGAUUAUUUGAGAACCGAAUUUCCCCUAACCCACCAAUAAAAUGCAAGUAAAAGUCCGACCAAGAGGGGUGUUCUUGGCCGGUGGCCUUCCUGAUAAGUCACCUUAGCCGUAGACUAGAUUUAGAUUUUGCAAUCACUAUCAUCUUGACCAAUCUAGCCAUGUACCAAAAAGUCAAUUUUGCCAAGUUUAAAAAGUUUGCUUUAAGCCUGUUCAUCAUAAUUGACAGAAGUUAGAAUUACAAUGAAAUAUCUAGGAGAAAAUGUCCGCAGGAGCAGAGAGAGAGAGUAAAGGCAAUACAUUCAGUCAUGAAUUUGAUGCAAAUCCCAAAGUACGUAAUUGUGUCGAAUACUCUCACCAUGAUUGUCGAUCUAUCGGAUCAGACGAUUACUAUGUUUGCCAAAAAUGCCUGGGCCGUAUGUGGAAUAAAUCAAUUCCACAAGGAGGGGAAACUGCAAAAUUCCGUACAAGGUCACAGGCAAACAGGCUAAUGCAGCCAAGGUAAUAAGAAUCCAUGCCUUCUUUUCACCAAAGAGAAGAUAGAUUGCGCUACUGUAGGCUAUCAUCAUGAAUGUUACGGAGAGGAAUAGAGUAACAAGGCCAAAUAUCAACCUCCUGGGAAGGGCAAAAAGAAAAUCAUCUUCUGCAUAUCGUGCCGUGAGAAUGGAUAGGCAUAUCAGCACCGAAGCAAUGGAUAGGAAGAGGGAAAGAGAAUCCGAAGCUGCAAAAACUUUGAAGGCCUUUUCUUUGGAGAAAUUUGGUAUGCCAGUAUCAUCAUGGUUGCCACCCGGGAUGGUAAUUGCUGCUGCAAACACUACAGUAGCAAUAAGCGCUGCUGCUAAUGCGUAACAUUUUGCUGUGCCUUUCAUCCAUUUCUCCCCUUCUUUUAUCAACUUUUCAUGUUCCUUUAUAAAUACCAUUUUCGGUUUAUCUUUGUUUUCGUUCUCAGAUUCACUGAAGGCUCUCGGGGCAUAUUUUUCAAUUUCCUGUGUAAAAAUCAAAAUGUUUCUAAGAUACAGAAAAAGAGUGGAUAUGUAUAAGAAAAUUAAUUCCCCUUCAAAACAAAAAUUAUUACCUUAAACCAAUGUAACUCGCGUUGCAUUUGUAGAGCUGCACCAGAAACGAGACUGAGCCGGUGCGGAGGGGCCAAUUUUCCAGCCAAAUGCAAGAUAUUACCGUUAUUUGAAUCAUCUUCGGUUCGUAUUAUAAGUUGUCUAUGCAUACCGGUUUCGCAGAUGAGGUUGAAAAUCUUUUCAUAACGAUUUAAUACUGCCAAUUUGAAUACAUCCUCAUCCAGAUACUCGAGUGCAUAAGGAUAUGACUUUAUAAUCUCUUCCAGAAUCUCGGGAAUCCCAUAUUUUGCCCCAUUAAUGAAUGAUUGUCUAAAUAUUUUCUUCGCUCUUGAUACUUCCAAAACUUCAGUACAUAGGUGGUUAAGUAAUUGAAGAGUCAGAGUAUGCAUUGUUUUUGUUUCUUGGAUGUGCUUGAUGGGUGGUACUGCAAUUAAAAUUAUAUUAAGGACAACAUAACAUUGAAUUCAAGACUUUUACAUGCUUUAGUGGUAGUUUUGUUGUGUUCCUUACCUAACCAUCCAACCAGUUCCCAGAAUAUUGCAUUCGCCUUUUGGCAAGCUGUGUGCAACGUAAAAUUGAAGCAGUUCAGAUGCAAAAGCAGGACUAACAGAAGAAAAAACAAAAAAGCAACCCUGAACCAAGUACCAAUUAAACACUAAUCUAAAUUAAAGUGAUCGUGAGAAGUUGCCAACUCAUAUUGACUGGUGUAAAGUUUUUUGGGGAUUCAAUAGGUUUCAUAUAUUUCCCUUAAACCGUCACACUUGAAUUUAAAGGCUAGAAUGAAGAAGCCUAAUGAAACUUGGUACAAGCUCAAUUACUUGACUUCUUAUUAAUUAACCAGGAGCAUCAGGUGACAAGAUAUUCACAAAAUCUAUCAGAGCAAUGAAAAUUGUGUAUCCUGCAUAAAUCUCUGAGUAGUAGAGUAUUAUCCAUUGGAAUUUGAUUGUAGAGCUGAUUUCAAAUCCAUUACUCUAACUUAAAAGGAUAAAAAAUGAAGACAAUUUUGUGAGGACAAAUUAAAAUUGUGAGGACCUCGAAUUCAACAAAUUAGCAUUUCUCUACUGAGUGCAAUUUGGCAAAUUGGUUUGACCUAACUCGAAUCUCGGUGAAGUUGAGAAACCAUUUUUAGUACUCAAGUUAGGAUUUGGUCGAGUUUCUCAACCAAAAGUUAAUUUUGGUUGAGCUCAAUUUUGGGCUGAGUUUAAACCAAUGCUUCAACAAUCUAAGCUGAAUUAAACUCCAUUAAUAUUUUAUAAUAUUUGUAGAAUGUAUUACUAUAUAAUAAUAUCAAAUUUUUUUAUAAAAUAAGUUUAAGGGAAAAAUCAUCAAAAUUUAUUAAGCUAACUCUCAGAAAUUUGCCCACCCCCUUGUGAACACUAUUUGGAAGGAAAAUUAAUUAGGAAGUCUCUUAAGCAAGCCAGAAAGGUAUCUUGUCCUUUGUAUCCCAUGCAUUCAAAAGUACAGGGACUAAUGAACACCCAAGCAUGGUGCCUACUACUUCAUCACAUUUACGGAUGGUUAUAUCUACAAGUCGAAAGAUUUGCUUUGAUUUAGAUGUUAUAUGAAUAUUGUAAAAAAAUUGAAAAGAAAAAACUAUUACAACAUUAAGGAUAAAUCAUGGACAUGAGUAUCCAUUGAAGAGUUUUAAAAAACUCUAUGAUGAAAAGGAAAUCCAAAGAACAAUCAAUAGCUUCAAGGACUCCAUAGUAAAAUGGUUGAACUGAAAAAAGUAACCAUAAACUUUUGGAUAUGGUUCACUCAAAAAGGCACAACCCAACUAUCUAACAUCUUUCGGGGUGGGAAAGGAGGGUUAGUAUUUUGAUUGCAACUUAAAUCUUGAAUAGAAUGCCCUCAAAAUCAAUUACUUCAAAUCCAUAUAGUUAAGAAGCCAAACAUAACUCACUUGUGAUCCUAAGGGUUAGCAGGUUUAGUUCAUGUAAAUUCUCAUAGAUAUUGUGCUAUAAAGGAAACAAGUGCACUUUCAUUAGAUAUUCUAAUAAAUCAAAGGUUGUGUGAUGCUUAGUGAACAACUCAAUGGGAGUAUAAUUGAAAUUAAGUUAUAUGAAUAUAAUUUCUUAUAGGAUGAUAUUUUGAGUAAAGGAGCAUUGAAUAGGAGUCUCAAUUUAUUUGAGGCAACUAAACCAAAGGAAAAUACUAUGAUAUCUCAUAUCGAAUAAGGGAAAAAGUUCUUGACAUCAUAUAUAUAUAUAUAUAUAUAUGAGCUUCUCUUAAUUAUUUAGACACAUUUUAAUGUUAUGAGGGCUCUUUGAGCCUAAAGUCGAUAGUAUAUAUUUACACAGUUGGGAGUGAGUUGUUACAAAUGGUAUCAAAGUGUAUCCUCAACCAUGGUAUGAGAGUUUGUUUGUUUGGUCCUGUAAUCAUAUGGGACACAAAUGAGGACUUUAUGUCUUCAUGGGGGUGAUUAUGAUAUGCUACAUUGAAUAGGGAAAAAAGUUCUUAGAAUUAUAUAUGUAAGAGCUCUUCUUAGCCAUGAAAACGUGUUUUAAAUCUCUGAGGUCCCUUUGAGUUCAGAGUAAACAAUAUCUACUUGAUUGGGAGUGAGUUGUUAUAGAUGUUAAAGAUCUUGCUAAGGAUAUGAGUGACUCGACAAGAUAGUAACUUUGAGUAGUAACUUGCCCCUACUAGAUUAUGCCACUAAGUGUGAUUUUACCAUUACAUAUUAAUUCACUAGAUUUAGAUGUGUGUGGGGAAAAACUUGGAACUAUCUCAUCAUUGUAAUUGUGGGCAUUAAGGUGAAGCUUUCAUGUUUGCAUCAUAAGAUCAUGAUGUUAGGAUAGAUUCUUUAAAAGCAUGAUAUGAUGUAACCAUAAAUGGAGUUCAUUAAUACUUACAUUAUGACUUCAAUUUUCUAUUUACUAUCCUAUUUAUGAAUUAUGUAUGUUAAGCAUUCAAACCUACAUCACUUGCAUGUACAUGACUUGAGUGAAUUAGGAGUUACAUGGAAAAUCUAAGUCAUAGAUUCCUUGCAAGUUAAUGACUCAUUCACAACUGGUUCAUGGACUUCAAUAAUCCAUUUGAGGGAUGACUUGCCCUAGUCAUUAGGAUGGGUUUCCCAUGGUCAGUGUACUAGUGUGUUUAGUUAUGUUGGGAAACCUAUAUCUCUCCAUUCCUAUAACCCUAGAUUGUAUAUGUGCAUGCAAAAUACCUUAGGGCUCUAAAUCCUAUGCAACAUAAGCAAAAAUCAAAAUUUUAACAUUCUAUAAUCUAGAGAAAAGUUAUUAAAAACUUUGAGAAAAUAAAAGGCUAAUCUUAAUAGAAAACACCCAAGAGGGGGGGGGGGGGGGGGGGGGGGGGGGGGGGGGGGAAUGGGGUUUUAAAAAAAUUUUUUCAAACCCACAAAAUUCAGGCAAGGGAAACCAAAAAUAAANNNNNNNNNNNNNNNNNNNNNNNNNNNNNNNNNNNNNNNNNNNNNNNNNNNNNNNNNNNNNNNNNNNNNNNNNNNNNNNNNNNNNNNNNNNNNNNNNNNNGGGGGGGGGGGGGGGGGAGGGAGGGGAGGGGUGAAUUGGGUUUUAAAAAAUAUUUUUCAAACACAACAAAUUCAAGCAAAGGAAACACAAAUAUAAAGAGAUAAGGUUAGAAAGAGUAAACUCAGAUUUUAUAGUGGUUCAACACUUGUUUACCUAUGUCCACUCUCCUCAACCUCCUAACUAAGUGAAGGUUCCACUAUACUUGAAGCUUCAACCAAGCUUUUAAUCACCUUUACACUUGGAUUCCAACUUCAAUGGGCUAUUACACAAUCCCUUCAAGUCUUAACUCACUUGAAGCUUUUAACACUCAAAUAAUAAGUUCGAAUCUCUCAACCUAGCUCAACAAGGGCUCAAAUACAACUUAAAUGUUAGGAAGAAUCACAAAGGUGCACUAAGGAAUAUGCAAAUGGAGAUUUAAUGCACUAAGGAAAGAAUGAGAGCUUUUGAGGCAAGAACAAGUAGGUAGACAAAUAAAUGCAGGUGUUCUCUACCUCAUAAAUGAAGUGGAGUUCUCAAUUUAUACGUUUCUAGCCUUGGGAGCCAAAAAUGUCAAAAAGUAGUAUUGAUCAGUUGAGUUGAGGGUCAACCGGUUUACUAACCAUUAGACAAUAAAUGCAUGGUAGGUGACCAUUACGCCUUGACUAAUCCUUGACCAAACCUCGAUCGGAUCUCGACCGAGAAGGCAUAUCCCUCGACCAAGAAUGCAAAGCUACAAGAAGAGAGAAUAUUUUUUGCAUUUCUCAAUCAGACCUUGAUCAAGAAGGUGUAAUCAGUCGACCGGUGCCCUAACCGGUUGAGCCGGUUGACCAGUGCCUUGACCAAUUCACCAUUUUUGGCUUGAAAACCUCUUUUAUAUAUAUAUAUAUAUAUAUAUAUAUUCUUUUCUCUUCUAACACUUAGGCAAGGUAUUUAGGUAAAUUAAUAUGCCACUUUUGAAACAAUUUGCCUAAGGUUCAUUUGAUAAAACUAGGGUUUUGACGGAAAUGUAACUUUAAUGCCUAAACCGAGUUUUUAAAGAGCAUGAAAAGAUAUGAAAUCCUAAGUGCACCAUGCAUUCAUCUUACAUAUGUUUCAUAUUAUUAAAGGGUCUUUUAAUUGUCUUUAUCUUGCAUCCAUUGGGUCCUUUGAUUAAUUUCCAAACUAAUACCUAAAAUUCUUUAUAAUUCAAACCAAUUAACAACUUAACCAUGGUUUGUUAUCAUCAAAACGCAAUUAGGAGAACCCUUGGGCUAACAAAUCUUACCUUUGAUUUGAAUGGUUCUCAAAUCAAUUCUACUGAAUAAAGAUGAAGCCUAAAGAGUCUAGAGGUCUCAUACACCAAAAAUAUUUUGCUUGAUGACUUGAUCCAUGAUCUUGGCACUCCAAAAUGUGGGCUUUGGAAAAGAGGAAUCCUAGGCUCUCUCUCUAGAUGUAGAAGACGAUUGUCUCUCAAAAAGUGAUUGGAACCCUAACCCUUAGAGGGUAUUUAUAGCGUUGCCCUACUAGGCUUAAAUGACUUGAGCCCACUAAGGCUUGGGUCACUUAAUCUUGUCUAAAAUGGGUCCUAAUUGAUUAAUUAACCAUAUAGGGUCAUCUAAUUAAUCAAUUCAUGUCAAUGAGAUAAUAAAGAGAAAGUAAAAAAUAUAAAUAAUACAUUUAUAAAUAAAUCUCUAUUUGUUACAUCAUGUCACUCUUUUUAGGACUCAAUUCUAAUAGUUUACACAUUAAAUAGGAUUUACAGUGAGUCAGACAUUGGUCAUUAGGUAGUCUUGACUUCACCAAGCUGUUAUGUUGUAUAAGCUCUCAACCUUGAGAGAAUAUUGCUAAGGUAUUCAAUGGCUUUAACCCAUGAGUGAGACCCUAAAGUGGUCAUAUAUUCUCUAUAGAUUGGGUCACUAUGAUUGAGGCAUGUGAUAAUAGGUAUUCUCAAGAUAAGCACCACGAUAUCUUAGGGGUUUGAGACAUUAUGUCCCCUUAGGUGAUCCUAAGGACAUGUGAUCAUGAAAAUUGUGGCCACAAUAAUUCCUUAAGUGGAAUUUGAUGUAUGCUCUUAGAGAGAUAUUGUAUGUCAAUUGAUCACAUAAUAGGAGGAUCUAAGACUCAAGGAUUGUAGAGGUAGUCUUGAGAGGUUGAUAACAUUCAUCUUGUUAAAUUAUGAAUACCAAUUCAUGGGGAGCUUGCAUGCAAUUGUUAGUAGGUCGUAGACUGAAGUUUUUUAUCUCGAUCUAAUAUCAUAAGGAUACUAAAGUGUAGUUGACUCUUUAUAGUUAGAUUUUGAGUCAACUUUAAAAUUGGAUUUUAGGGGAGCCAACACUUCCCUACGGGUCCUAGUGGUUCCCACUCAAACUCAUAUUCCUUGGUAAAAAAUAUUUGAGGAAUAGUUGGAUUCUUUAUUUAUAUGUGUGUAUAAGAGCAUUUUGGUAAAUACGGAAGGUUGCACUAGUACAUAUAAAUAGCGUUUUUAGAUUCGAAUAAUUAAUUAAUUGGAGCUCAAUAGAACAAAUUAGUUAAUUAGGACCCAAUGAGUUAGAUUAAGUAACCCAAACGUAAGAUGAGCUCAAGUCACUCAAGCUAAGAGGUAAGCCUAUAUAAACUCCUUAAAGGGUUUAAGACUUAGUACUUUUCAUCCAUUCAAUCUUCUAUCUUAAUAUCUUAAUAAAACCAAAAUGAGAGUGUAGAGUAUAAAAAUAAAAAUGAAAAAGAACUUCUCAUGAGAAGUGAGGUUUGCCUCAACUCUCCUUAUUCAAACCAUUAUCACAUCUUUGGAUUUGAAAUUAUAUCAAAUAAACAUUCAAAUUGUUUUUCUCAAUGGAGAACUAAAUAAGAAGAUCUAUAUAGAUCAACUGACUUGUUUUAUGGCAACUAAAUAGAAAGGCAAAGUUAACAACUACAAAGGUCCAUUUAUAACUUACAAUAAUCAUCUAAACAAUGGUAUAUUACACUAAUGGGUUUAUGAUGGUCUAAGAACACUAUUGCAUGUUUGUUAAAUGGUGUAAGGGUAGAUUCUAUAUUCUAUUUUUUGUAUACGAAUGAAAUGUUGGUUAGGGAUGAUAAUGAGAUGGUUGUCUCUAAAGUGUGGUGGUCGUCAACUUUUAAAAUGAACAACAUGCUUAAAGCAAACUAUGUGUUCAAAGUUAUGAUCCUAAUCAAUCAAUCAAGAAGACUUUUUGGUUUGUUUUACAAAUCAUACACAAUGAAUAUUCUUGAAAAAAUUCUAGAAGUAAAAUUGAAAAUCUAUUGGCAUUCAUAUAGAGAAAGAUAAGACCUUAAGCUUUAACAUGUGUCAUAAGACUUUAGAUGAAUAGGAAAAGAUCACUCAAGGUUCCUAUAUGCUAGCAUUGUUAGUAGCUUAAAGUAUCCAAUGAUGUGCACAUGAACUAAUACUUGUUAUAUAAUUAGGCUAGUAGCUUCCAAUUAGAUCUAAACCUUGUUUACGAAAAAGCAAUGAACUGGAUGAUUUCGUACCUCAAAGUCACCAUAGGCUAUAUAAUUUGCUAUUAAGGAUUGAAUUUGGACUUGAUUAGCUAUGACAAUGAUAAUUGAUGUAGCAUCAUAAAUGAACCCAAAUCCACAUAUGGUUAUAAUUUUAUAUAUGCUCUAUGAUGUUAGCAUAUAUUGGUGAAAUAGAAAACAAUCAUGUAUAACAUUGUCUAACAUGCAUGGAGUUGGGAGUACAUUACUUGUCGUUUAGGAAAGUGACUAGUUUAUGAUGUUCAUACAUAUUUUUCACAAUAUUGCUUGUUCUUUUGAGCAUACUACUAUUUAUUGUGAUAGCAUGGUAACUUUAGCCUAUGUCAAAGACCCCCCCAAGUAUCAUAGUUGAACCAAUCACAUCAAUCUUAAAUAUUAGUUUAUAUGAGACAUGGUUACAUAGGAACAUAUUUCUACUUGAUGCAUGGUUAAAAAUCCCACCCUCCCCUCCCCCCUUGUUAACUAAGCUAAUACGUAAAGAUGUUUAUUAGGGUCAAGUUGAGAGCAUUGGAUUAUGUAGAUAAUGAUUACAUAGGAGUUAAGUUAAGAGAAUUUGAUCAUGUAGAUUAUGAUUACAUAUUGUAUAUUUCAAUUAACCAUUAUACCUAUGAUUUAUUCAUUGUCCAAUCUUGUUUGAUGGUGGCAUUUAAUUAUUUGUUUUACUUUAUCGACAUGCACUUUCAUUACUUUGCGCAACUGAAACAUAAUGAGUCUAAACCACUUAGAUAGUGUGUUAGGUCAUUGAUAUUUGUAGUACUCCUUUUGUAUCCAAUAUGACUUACAUGUUAGUAGCGACCAAGUAUAGAUAGUCCUAUUGUCUACAUUUGUAAUGGAGUCAAUUGCCAAAUCUUGUUAAUGUAGUGCUUGAUUUAGUAAGCAUGUGCAAAACUUCAAUUCUUUACUUGAUGUAAUUAAACUAAGAUUUGUAUGAUAUAGAAUAUCUAAGGUACACUCAUAAUGAAGAUCUCCAUGUUAGCAUGUAUAUUCAUACUAUAUCUUCUUCGCAAUCAAACAAGAAUGAAUGAAUAUAUUCCUAGCUACUUCCUCAUCUUGUGCAUUAAUCUUAUAGGUCAUUAUAUAUGCUAACUUUUAUGCCCUUGUGAUUUUCAGUCAUAAGUUACAUAUAUGGUGUAGUUUGAAAUAUUUUUCUAAGGGGAUUAACCAUGUUUAACUCAAUGUGAAUAAAUGUGUUUAAGAUAUAACGAGACACCUUUUAGGGAUGAAUUACACUGGUUAAAAUGAAAUUUAGUUUAAUACUCUUACACCUUUCUUAUCAAUGUGUUCAAAAGUUGUACAAUCCAUUAGUCAAUAUAAACAUGGAUGGUAAUGAUAUAGUUAAGAGAAAUGCAUGAUGUUAUUUUGCCUACUGUGCAUGAGUGGGAGACAAUGGAGUUUCUAUUUCAUGAGAUACUCUUAGUAGAACUUCAUCAACUAAGAACUUGAGAGUAAGUUGCAUACUUAUCAGUUAAGAUUCCUCUUGUGGGAGGAGGUUCAUAUUAGAUUUGGUGAGAAUCUAUAAGAGUUGUUUGUCUUUUUGUAAUUCCAAUUCAACUCCUUUUGCAUGUUUUCAAUUUAGUUUGUGGCAGUUGUUAAAUACUUCUACUUUAGUUUUUAGCAAUUAUAAUUUUUUAAAGCUUGCUAUUUAGGUUUAGAUUUACUGUAUGCUUAUUAGAUAUCUUAAUUCUUAUUGUAUUCUCCUUGGUUAAUAAUCUUCCAAUUUGAUCGUGGAGUUCAAAGAUUUUAACCAAAAUAGGGAUUAGGGUUUUCAAAGUUAGGAAAAGUAUUUAAUAUAAUUAAUUUUUGAAUAAGUUUGCAAGCUAAAUCUUUCAAUUGAACCUAAUGAGUUUACAUACUAAAUCUCUUAUUUUCGGCCUUGGUUGUUUCCACUCUUUGCAAUUUAAUUAGUUUUUUUUUUCAAAUAUAUAUAUAUAUAUAUUUAUAAUUCAUUUUGUGUACCUAUAUACUCAUGUUUUUGAGUAAUUAUGAGUUGUAUUGUUAUAUUUAGUAGAAUUUGACAAACUAAAAAUACUUACCUUUGAACAAUUGAGUCCAACAACACAUUUGUGUGGAUAGUUCAUAGCUACCAACUUGAUUCUUCAUGCCUCCUCUAUUAGGUUGACUAAGAAAAUGGUUUAAUUUCACAAGAACACCUUAAGAAUAAAAAUGUCAAGAAAAAAGGAAGGAAAAUUAUGCUUCAUCUAAUUUGACUCCAAGACUUAAAGGAAAAAACAUAAUAAUAUAAUAGUUAUUAUAAUGAAUAUAAUAAAAAGAAAAUUUGUCAUGUUCUUCCCAAUACUCAUAAAACCCCUUUCAAUGAAACUUUGUAAGCUAUACUAAUACAAAAUAAUGGUCCAUAUAGUAAAAGCUCAAUAAAUGAAUGUUUGAUAAAUUAAUAAUCUUACUUAUAAAACAAAAUAUUCUAGUCUUAACUCAAGCCAAUGUACUAAAUUAGUAAUCUUGCUAAAUGCAUAAGAUAAAAAUAUUUUCAAAAAUCUUUAAGGGCUUAAGAAAUAUAAACUAAUAAUUGAUGAAGUAUAAACAAAAAAUCAUAGUAUAGCAAAUAGAACUUCAUAAUAUAGUAUUAAGUAAUUUUUUAUAACUUUUAUUUUUCUAAAUUCACUUCUUUUAGAAUUAUUACAUAUUUGAAAUAGCUUUAUCUUUUACAACAUUAAGUUUUGAUGCCACAUCUUUGUUGGGGAGUCUUUUUUUCUUUUACAAUCAAUAACUAUUUUUUUUUUCUUCAGUCUCUCAGGUUUCUAUGUAUUAACUUUUUACCACGUGUACUAUUUUUAAAUUUAUAAGUCAUACAUGUACAAAUAAUGUACAAUAACAACAUAAUACUCUUCAUCAAUUAAUAAAUAACCAUUUAUCUAUAAAUUAAUAACCUUGCUAAGAUCAUUUUUUUUCUUGGUCCUAAGAGUAUUAUUUUAUAAGAGUUUUUCUCUAUAUAGUUCCUUCAUUGUAGGAAUUUCUUUAGGUUAAUAUUACUAAAGUUGUAAUUUAGAAAAAAAAAAAUAUUAUGGAAACUAAGAGAAAUUUGAAAGCUAUAAAUUAGUGUUUUAUAUCAUUCUUUUUUCCUAUGAAUGCCAAAGCCAUUGUCAAAUAAAAAGAGUAAAUAAAGUAAUUAAUCAAGUAAUUAGUUGAAAGCGAAAUAGGUGACUUAAAACUAUUGCUUUGGUACAUGUUUGUUUGAGGUAUAGUAGAUCGUAAGAAAUAAAAUCCUCUAGCUAUGUUUAUUUGAUAGAAUAAAAAAGUGAGUGUGUGGUUGCUCUACAGGAGAAGACCACACGUUAGCCAAAGAAUAAGUAACUAGAAAGCUUACACAAGUGUUAAAUGAUCAAUUUCUCACCUAAGCACAUUAAUGAGAACUAAAUGUUGAAUUAAACCAUACUCAUGCACCCAUACUAAGACCCAUGCCUCCAUGUGGGGAGACCCUAAUUGGUCCCUAAAAGGAGAAGUUUAAUAAUGGCCACAUCCUCUAUGCCAUGUUAGUAUUCCAAAAACAUAGAAAGUUAACCUUUGAGUUGAUGCUUAUUUGUCUGGUAGUUUCCACAUUCUUCUUACUAAAUUGACAUUUGAAGGCUCUACGACCAUAAGGAGCCUAGAGUGCUCCCUUUAGGUUCCUUAUGAUUGUAAGGUCCUAACCAUCCAUUGAAGUAAGAAAGUGAACUAAGAGUUGGAAAAAUGGUGUCAUCUAUGGUGAAGAUACAAAAAUUCAGCUCACCAAAAAAUCACAAUAAAGCUACUAAAAAACACCCCACCCCUAGGCAAAGACCUUCAUUUAAGUACUCCUUGAGGUCUACCCAAAUCAAAGACCUAACGUUGAAGAAAUGAAGUCAACUAAACUUGGUUUCAUGCAUGAUAAGGUUGAAAAGCCUGCAUAAAAACCUACAGAAAGCUUGCUCCUUUAUAAGAAUAACCUGAACCUACAAGGGAAGAAGACCUAUAAAAGGAAAUCAUAAACAACAAAGAAAAAAAAGUCCCUCCCUCCUUUGAAAAAGAUUUCUUUGAAUGCAGAAACCUAUUUUUUUUGUAUCAAAAAAUUGGUGGAAUAAAAAUUUUCAAUUAUCUAUAAAGAGUUUUAGCUUCUUCAUAUGGGAAUGCAUUAAAAGCCUUGAAGACAUUGUUUAGAUCUAUAGCAAUAAUUGGGCAAUAGAAAACUAUGCAAUAGAGUUUUGGUAGGGAAAUGCAAUCAUGAUAGAAAUGAAGUGGAGCAAUGAGUGAGAACAAACCCUUCAAUAGAUGGAAGAGCUCAUUAAAAUAAGUGACUAACUCACUCAAGAAAAUGUUGCCUUUAGGGUAAGGGUAGACAAAUACCAAUGUGAUUUUGACCAAAAACUCUCAUUGGCAAGCACCAAUAAGAUGCAAGUUAAUGAAUAAUAGUUAUCGAAGCAACUAGACCAACAUCUAGAUUAAAUUGGGAGAGAAAGGUGGGAGAAACAUUAAUUAAACUAACCAAACAGACCACCUUGCCAAAGGCCCCAAUGCUCUAAGGGAUUCUUGCCACCAGAGCUACCACAAAAUGCAUAAUCUUGGUGAAUAAGGUGAUUGAGCCCAAGUCCCUUUAGAAGGAGAAUGAGGCCAUAUGAGAGUUUUCCCUCCCUAAGUUCAAUUUCUUUCAAUGAAACUAAAGACACCCUAGACUAUUCAUGCAUUUCUAUGCAUGUGAUAAUCUUAGAGAAGGGAAACGAUCGACUUUUAUGCAAAAUCUUCCCCUCCAUCCUCCAAGGACUAACUUUAUUUUGUCUUUAUCAACUUACCUUAGAGUUUGUUCCUAAUAUCGAGACCCUAAGGGUGAAGUCUACCUCUUAGUACAUGCACUUAAAAAGACAAAAUAAAAGCCUCAAAUAACCCAAGGUAGUUAUAGCUACCAUUCAUGGUGGAUCAUCUACUAGAUUUGAGCAACUAGGCAAGGUAUCAAGAUGUUACAGAAGCAUAUGGCGAUUGAAGCAAAAGUCCUCACAUCCUUGCAUGAAGCAACUACCACUUGCCCACAUGUCAUAUGCUUCUCUAAUAAAGGCUUAAGAGGAGUCCAAACCCUGCUCAAGAUCCAUUGGUUAUUACUUUAAGAAUUAUUGACUACAACAUGCACCUAUUCUUAGUUGACCUAACGAAUUUAGUUAACAUGCUAAAUAUAUUAGCCCAUCUAUGAACAAGUGAAUAUGGACGAAGGAAAACUAGUGUCAAGUCUAGGGUCAUUGGUGGGACUAGACAAAGUCCUAUGUGGCUCAACUGGGGAAGUCGCCCUAAUGGUUCCAAUUGGUUGUUGCCAUAUAAUGACACAAUUCUUUGUUAUGGAUAUCCUUUUCCCGAUAAUGCCAUUAUGGGAUGACCAUGGAUAUAAAACCUAAGAGGAACACUAUUCACAUACCAUCACACCAUUAAAUUCCUAAUACUACAAGGAAUAUGGGAAAUAUAUCAAGACUAGGUGGCAUCAUGAGUAUGCUACACCAUAGCCCUUAAAGCGGUCAUCAAGUGCAUCAACUGGGACCCUUAGGAAGUUCAUAAAUCAAAAAUCAAAUACAAAUUAGUAGGUGACCCGAGAAGGCAAUUAGAGAACCUAAGGAGUCAUUAUUCUAGAGCCCCUAAACCUAGGAGGUUCCUUCUAGCCCAUGCAAAAAAAAAAAAGAAAAAGGAUUCAGAUGGCUACUAGAAAAGAACACAUCUUUACUAGGAAACUACAAGACAUUGUGGGCAUCGAUCCCCAAGUUACAUCUCAUCGACUCAACAUAAACCCUAGUGGUUAGCUCCUUAAAGACAUUAGAUUGUGAAAAAAAGGUAUCUAGGCUCUUAUAUGCUAGAUUUGGUCAUCUAGGUCUUCUAACAACAAAUAGAAGUUAGUAUGCUAGUGUACAUUAAUAAAAUGUUAGUAACAAGUAAGAAGAGGAAUGAGUACUUGAUCGACCUCCUAAGAACAUUUCAAGCUCUUCAAAAGUAUUAAAUGAAGCUAAAUCAGUGAAGUGCACCUUUAAUGUAGGGUAUGGAAAGUUCCUUAGGUACUUGGUUAUAUACAAAGGAAUGAAAGCUAACCCAGGCCAAAUAAAAUCAACUUUGGAGAUACCAAUGACCAAAAGGGCUAGAGAAGUCCAAAAGCUAACUAACAAGAUUGGUUCUUGAAAUAGAUUUAUAUAUUGAACAACAACUAUGUGUCACCCUUUCUUCGACAUUAGCAAGAAGGGAAAAUGGACUAAAAGAACCAAAAAAUGCAACUAAGCCUAUGAAUCACUAAAGCAUUACAUGAUGCUAACCCCCAUUCUAGAUAAACCCUAGGAUAAGGAGGUCUUACAAGGUCUCGAUAGCAGUAGUAAGUGGAGUGUUAUCUCAAAAAAAGAGGAAAAGAGGAGCAACCAAUGUACUAUAUCUAACAGACCCUCUUAGAUGUGGAAACCUGAGAUAUUUAUAAAUAUUGAAAAAUUGGUGCUUGCCCUUUAGAUCACCACAUUGAAGCUUCAAUGUUACUUCCAAGCGCAUGUUAUUAAGGUAAGAACUAAGUGAUGAGAACUCAAACUUAAUACUUUAAUGGCUUUAAAGAGCCUACUUUAGUGUAUUUGAGGUACUAAAAAAUUAACCUAAGGUUUUGUUUUUUUUAUAACACCUUAGAAAAUUAUGUUUGAUGCAUUCUGUGACCGUUCUACAUGUUUUAAGGUGUUUUUUUGUUAGGAUAGAAUCCUUAAAAGCAUGACAUGAUGUAAUAAAUUUGGAAUUCAUUAUUUAUUUAAUGAUGUUCUAGUUUCACUUUUAUCUAUCCUUAUUCCAUGUAUUGUACUUUAUGAGUAUUCUUGCCUACAUAUUUUGCAUUGUACAUGACUUAGGUGCAUUAGGAGUUGCACAGAAGAUUUAAGUCAUGGGUUUCUUGCAAAUAGAUUAUUUGUUCAGAGUCGGUUCAUGAGCCUAGGCAAACCAUUAGAGGUUGUAGAGCACCACCUCCUAAUUGGAGGGAUGGUUAGUCUUGGCCAUGGGAUGAGUUUCCCAUGAUAAGUGCACUAGUGUGUAUGGUUGCACAUUGGAUGGGACCUAUGGUGAGUUAUGACUUAAGCCUAUCAAGUAGUCAUGACUCCACCGAGCUGUUUCAUUGUAUUAUCUCUCAACCUUGAGAGAAUAUUGAGUUUGUGCUAAAGUUAAUAAUGGCUUUGAUUUAUGGGUGAGGUCGUAAGUUGAUCAUAUAUUCCCUAUGGAUUAGGUCAAUGUUGAUGGAAGUCGGUAACAAUAGGUAUUCUUAAUAAAGGCACCAUGAUAUCUCUUAGGAUUGAGACAGUGUGUCCCAUUGGGUGAUCAUAAGGAGGUGUGUUCAUGGAAACUAUGGCUAUAGUAGUUCCUUAAGUGGAAUUUGACAUAGACUCUUUGAGAUUUAAGAUAUGUUAAUUGAACACACAAUAGGAAGAUUUGUAGCUCAAGGAUGGUAGAAGUAGUCUUGAAAAGCUGAUGGCUUUCACCUUGUUAGACUACGAACACCAAUUCAUGGGGAGACUAAACAUAAUGGACAGUAGGUCACGGACCCGAGCACUUAGUGUCUUCGUUGUUAGUUACAUAGGAUACCGGAGUUUAGUUGAUUCUCUAUAGUGCGAUAUUGAAUCAACUUUAAAAUUGGACUAUGAGGGAUCCAUGGUAUUCCUAUAGGUCCCAAUGGCCCCCGCUAUGAGCUUAUAUACCUUGUUGGAAUGGGUAAUGAGGGUUGGAUUGACUCUAGGUUCACUUUUGUGCAUAAGGGCAUUUUGGUAAUUAUGUAAGGUUAUAUAGGAGUAAAUGAACAAGGCCUCUAGAUUAGGCUAAUUGAUUAAUUAGUAGGUCCUAUUAGGUUAAUUAAUCAAUUAGAACCCAUUUUGGGCUAGAUUAAGUGACACAACCCAAGUGGGCUCAAGUCACUUAAGCCCACUUAGAAACCCUAUAAAUACCCCUUAGGAGUUAGGGUUUCCAUAACUUUUGUCUUCCAUCAUCCAGAGAGAUAGAGAGUCAUAGCCUUCACCCUCUUUUCCUCCUCAUUGGAAAUGUGCCAAGAUCAAGGUUCAAGUCAUCGGGCGGAAGACUUCGAGUUUACGAGACUUCUGGGAUUUCAAUUUUCAUCUUCACCAUGUGGAUUUGAUUCGAGAACACCUGAAUCUAAUGUAUAGUUUUUGUUAGCACUUUUUGAAUCCUUUUAAAGUAUAAAAAUGUUAUUUUUCCGUUGUGCAUAGGAUUUAGAAAAAACCUAAGAUAUUUAUGCAUGUUCCUAACCUGAUUCGGACUAGGGAAACAGAGAGAGAUUCAGGUUUUUCCCAUCAUUUUUGGUGCAAUAGAACCUUGUUAGGAACUCAUAGAGACAAAAAUGCCCAAGUAAGGAGGAAAUACAGAUUGCACACCCAAAAGGUGUGCAAGACUCAAUCAUGCACUUCUUUCUUUGUGUAGAGCCACAUAGUGCACCUCCCAUGUAUACCUUAAAGACUAAACAUACAAGACCUCUCUAAUGCUUUGGACCAAAUUUUAUACCCUAUUCAAGCAACUCAAUCUACAAACCUCUUAAGUGCUUUAAGCCAAGAUGUUGUGCACCCCCUCACUUGAGUCAACAGGAUGUGUAGUAGUGCAACCCCUUGAUGUCAUCUAAAUUACAAACCAUUCUUACCUCUACAAUAGCUAAGUACUUAAUAAUUCUUCUAAUGAUUGGCUCACCCACCAAAGUAGUAUGUUGUUCAUACCUCAAAGUCUUCAAUUGUACUACCAAAAUGUACUCUGACCAAAUUACAUAGAGAAAAAGGUGCAACUACCGACCAUAAGCUAACACAUCAAGAAUGAAGGUGGGUUGAUUGUAAUGACAAAGGACUUGACCCUUAGUAUAAGAAGAGACAAGUCUAGAGGAGUGGUGUCGGAGUAUUAGAAUGACCGGGAAGGGAGGGGGGGCAUUUUUUUGUAUAUAAAUGGAGGAUUGUGAAUAUACAAGUGGAAGCAAAUUAUAGAAAGUGAAAUUGUAGAUAAGUUUUUCUUCUUAUAGGAAGAGAAGUAGGAAUAAGAGUAACUUAAUGUAAUUUAAGUUUUUAGUUUUCCACUGUAAUCUUUUCUUUUCAUUAUAAACUUUCCCUAAUUUCUAGUUUAAUGAAUUUUCUAAUCUUUUUAAUUAUUCUUACAUUUCAGUUUUUCAAUUUCAACUUACAAAUUUGCAUUUUUAGUUCUUUACUUAAUUUUUAACAUGCUUAGAUAACCUUUAACACUCUAAGGGGUGAGAGGAGCUCAAGUCUCCCAUAUCUUAGUUUAGCUGUCUAUUGGUUUAUCUGUGCAUUAGUUACAAACAAUAUGAUCUCUAUCAGUAGUUAUAAUGACCAAAACAAGUAACCAUGGGGAAAAAGUCUAUGUUGCAUUGGUUGUGAGCAUUGUAAGUCAAGCAACUUUGGAAGCAUACUUAGGCAUUGUUUUAAUGAUUCUUUCAACUAAGUAUAGGCCUAUUGCCAUGAAAAGAAUCUUAUCUAAAUCAUUUGGUUGUAAGGAUAUAUAUAUAUAUAUAUAAAGAGCAAUUAGAGAGAGAUUAACCUUUUUAAGGUGGUUCUUGUUCAUUUGAAGCAGGAAACCUUUUUUGUAUAAAUCCUUGCUUUGAGCCUAAAUCUGAAAGCAUAAGUUUAAAGCCUUGUUGGUGAGUUGUAUCUGAAAGUGGUGAUCCUAGUGAAUCUCUAGGUUUGAGGUUUUCUUUCCUUUAAUUUUCUAUCUUUUAAACUUUGUGUGUGUAUGUCCUUUUUAUUUAUAAAAUCAUUUUUCUAAUCUUUUAGCUGCCAUUCACACUCCUGAAGCUAUUACCUUAGUUGCUACCAAUUUAAAGUUCCUUGUGGAGGCAACCUAACAACUAUACCACUAUUAAUUUUUUUAUUUUUUGGUUAAGGAGUUGAGAGUUUCAAUGAAUGAUCUAGUUUAAUUUCUCUUUGUAAAACUUAACUGUUAAAUAUAUUUCCAAGUUUUGAUAAAAGAAAUGAACUAGAGAAUGACAAACCAAAAAUUAGUGUCGUCACUAGGGAACUUUCAACAUUGAUGACUCUAGGUAUUUUUGUGUAUAUGCUUGUUGUUUUAGAAGCUUAACAAGUAUAUUUCACCCAUUCCCCACCUAUCUUUUAGUUGGAUUUUUUUCUUUUUUUACUUAAUUUGUUUUCUUUGGAUUUUCUUUUUAUUCUCAGUUUUCAUUUUUAGUUGUUAAAUCCAACAUUUCAAACAUUUUCUUUAAAGUGAUAUGAUGUCACUACAAGAAAAAAGAGAUAUGGUGACAUUUAUAAUGAGUCAUUAUAAACAUAGGGUGUCGCUACAACAUAGCGUCACCUUAUCCACUGACACCAUAGAGGGUACCAAUUGGUGACGUAUUUGGAAGCGACACCAAAGCAAAUAAAUGGUGACACAUUCAGAAGCGACACCAUAUAUUUUUAGUUAUACUUAAUUUAGUUAUAUAUAAGGUGUCAUAUUAAAUGCAUCACCUUUUAGUUAUGGUGUCACAUUAAAUGCAUCACCUUUGAGUUAUGGUGUCACAUCAUUGUAAAUGAUUAUGGAAGAUAUGGUUGUUUUUUAUUAAUUAGCCUGUUGAUUUUUGUAAUGCUUAUUAACAAAUAAGAUCAACUUAUGUAUAUUUUGUCCAUAAAUAUAAUAAUCAUAUCAUAUUUAACUUAUAUUUUCGUAAUGCUUAUGGAUUAACCUGUAAUACAUUACAUCAUGCAGUGAUAUUUGUAUAUCAAAUGUUUACAAAAUGAUAGUACAUCAAACCCACCGAAACUAAAAAAAAAAAAGUGAAUACAUAUUAAAAUAUGAUUUAGAAAUGUUAAGCAUUCCAACAUUCAUGUAUACCUGCAUUUCAUAUGCAUAAAACCGGCUAAUCAUAAAAUGACACAAGAGUUGCAUCCAAAAACCCAAAAUUCUCAAUACCAAAUAAAGUAACAUUGAUGUCCUAUAAUAUAUGACAUAAGAGUCACAUCUAAAAACCCAAAAUGUUGUUGUUUCUUUCUCCUUUCUUUUUAUUCUUCAUAAUGUCUUCCCAAGAGUGUAUACCUGCAUUUCAUAGUUUAAUGAGAUUUAGAGUUUUAUUGAAAAUAAAAAUUAAUUGAUGUUAUAAAAAAUAAACAAAUCUAAGUACUAAUGUUUUCUUUUUUUCUUUUUCCCAUUUUGAUAUAAAAAUAAUUUGUAAAGAAUAAGUAAUGUUAUACAAUACCAAUGGAAAAUUCAUAUAACAACUAAGAGACUCGCCAUGCAUGAUCAUGAUUUAUCAAUAUGAUUCAUAAUUAGUUAUAACACAAAAGAAGUUAAUUCUCCUCUAAUUUCAUCAAAUUCUACUUGAGAAUAUGAUAUUUUUUUUUAGUUUUUUGUUUAUCAUAAAACUGAAAUCAAAUGAGAAUAACAUUAAUAUUAUAAUAAUUAGAAGUAUGAAACUAAGUACAAUUCAUUAAAUGAGUAAAAUAUUUAAUACAAUAAUUGUAAAAUCAACAAUUAUCUCUUUAAUGAAUCUCAUAACAAAGCAGUCACAUUUGAACUCAAAUAAAAACAAUUCAAGAAAAUAAAAAAUAAAGAAAAACUAGAAAAUAAAAAAAUAAAUCUAAAAUUUUAGAAAAUAGUAAUCUUCCACUUAAAAUCUGCACUUUUUAAAUUUAUUUUUUAUAAUUCAUUGUGCUUUUAAAAAUCAUUUUUAACAUUUAAUUCUUUUUAUAUAUUUUUUUAUUUCUUGGAAGGAUUUUUUUAAUUUCAAUAUUUUUUUAAUGUUCAUUUUGUGAAAUAACAAUGUCCAUUAAAUUUCAUCUCAAUUAUAUAAAAUAAAAUUUUAGUAACAAAAUAUAAAAAUGUUUUCAACUACUAAUAUGAGAGGACAUGAUAUUAUAACAAGCUUGAAGAUUGUGUAUAUAAGACAAAAAACCUAAUUCAUUAUUAAAAAAUAUUAAGAAAAAAAUUAGUAUGAGAAAGAAUUAAAGAACCUUUCAUAAAAAUUAUUAAUUUUUCAGUCAUAACUCCAAUUAAUAUUUAUUUUUUCUAAUUAAAAUAAUUAAUAAAAAAUUUGGAUAUGAAAAAUAUGUUCAAAUAAAAAUAAUAAAAGAUUAAAAACAUCAAAGGAAAAGAUAUUCAAUAUUUUAAAUUUUACUUUUGAUAAUCUUUAGAUCAAUAAAUUAUCAAAUAUCUUUUUAGAAAAAGGAAAAAUGAAGAAAAUGAAGAGUUUUAUGGAAGGGAUUGGAAAAUUUUUUGUAAUAAAAGGAUUUUAUAGAAAUUUCCUAACCUUGAAAGGAAAAUUUCAUCAUCAAUUUCAAAUUACUCCAAAAUUUGGUCAAUGCAUAUAAACAAUAAGAAAAGAAGACAAAAAUAAAACAAAUUUUUAGAAUCCUUUUGAGGGAGAUGACAAUAUUGAGAAUAAUUUUCUCAAAAAUUAUGGAAGGAAAAUUUAUGUAAUAAAAGGAUUUUAUAGAAAUUUUUUAACCUUGAAAGAGAAAUUUCAUCAUCAAUCUCAAAUUACUCUAAAUUUUGGUGAACACAUAUAAAAACAAUAAGAAAAGAAGGUAAAAAUAAAAAUAAAAAAACAUAUUUUAAGGAUUAAGUAAAAUAUGAAUAGAACAAGAUGAGAUAUUAACCAUAAUACCAUGUAAAAGAAUUUUAAAAAAAAAAAUCAAAAUAUGAGAUUUGAUCAUUUUUAUAAUUAUAAAAAAUUUCAUUCCUAUUUAAAUUUUAAAAAACAAUUCAUUUUCAUUAAUAAAUAGAAAAUAAAAUUAAUUUCUCAUUGUUAAUUCCAACAUUCUAAACCAACUCCAACAUGAGAUGGAAACUAUUUCAUUUUUCCUUUUGUGGGAGAUGACAAUAUUGAGAAUAAUUUUCUAAAAAAUUAUUUUUCAAAUAUCACCAAUACAUAUCCUCAUCACAAUAUACUAUAAUAUUCCUAGAAAACAAACAUAAAAUCUCAUCAAAAGAAAUUUCUUAUAAGAUCAAAAGAAAAUUUCAUACUGUAAAAUGUUUAUCCCUCAUUUUGAGUAUGAAAGAUAUUAAAAAAUCAUUCAUUUAUCAUAUUUUCAUUCGUUUUGGGGUUUGUGGAUUUAACAAUGAAAUAAAAGAUAUGGUGGAAUGCUAAACCUAAUUUUUACUUUCCUGCAACUCAAUAAAAAAAACACUAUUUACACAAUCUACAUUACAAAUAUACCAAAUCAAUGAAUGUAAAUCAGUUAUGCUAAUAAAGAUUUUGGUUUUAAUAAAAAAGAAAAAGAAAAUGAUAGAUCUAAGAGAUUUUGGGUUACCUGAGAGUCCAUGAAGUAGAGAAGAGCAGUUGUGUGUGAACUAUGGGUGUGAGAAGAGAGGUAGAAGAAAGUUAUGGUUAUGGGUUAUGGAAUGAGAUUUUUUUGGAUUGUGGGAAUGUGGAAACAAUGAGUUUUUUUUAUAUACAAUCAUUAUUCUCAAAGUGGGCCCAUUUAGUUAUAAUAUUUUAAAAUUUUUAUUUUAUAUGGUGUCACUUUUUUAAAACUGACACUAAACUUAAAAUUAAUAUCAUCUAUCCUAAUUAAAAAUUUUUAUAUGAUGUGUCACCUUUAUGAAUUUUAAUUCAUAUGGUGUCAUUAUUUUAAAAGUGACACCAUAAAUAGUGACACCAUAAAUUAUUUUUGUUGUAGUGUGUAUUAGGGAAAUGAUUUUAAAGGAAGGGUACUAAGAGUGAGUUUGAGAGUGAUUCUAUGAAGUGUUUCUAACAUUUCUAACACUUGAGUGAUAAAAUGAUGAUCUUCAAGGCAUCAUCAGAGGGCUUCUCAAUAUCUCUUCUACUGAAAAAAAUUUCUUGACUGAAAGUGGCUCUUAACUAGAGGGGAGGGCAUCCCAAAAAUUUUAGGAAACCAUGAAGAAAAAUUUAUCAAAAUGGAUGCUUCCAAUCUACCUGUGGGAAGUAAAGAAAAAGUGAAGAGCCAUUGGUUAGCUAGAAGCUAGCCAAAAACUUGUAAAUAGCUUUCAUUUUUUAUUUUCUUUAUUAUUUUUGUUUUUAUUGCUUUGGCCAAUUUAGUGUGUAGGAGUACCAUCAUAAGAACUCAAGUAUAAAUUUCUCUAUACUCUAUUGGUUUUAUCAUGCUUCAGAGUAGGUGUACAUUGUUAGCACCAGGAAAGUGUAGGACAUAUAGGAAUUGCGCACUUUUGAGGUUUGCUAACCCAACUUGUAUGAUGACUUAAAUUGCGUAUCUCAAAUUGUACACUUUGAAAGCAUGACUGAAACUCCACACCCUAAGAGAUUAAUUUAAGCGCAACUAAAAACUGCACACCUUUAAGCAACCAUUGAUAUUGCCCAGCUUAAAUUACACACCAUAAGCACGCCAUCCAUAAUAAAAAUGCCUUCCCAAAUAAAACCAUAAUUGCUUAGAGACUUUUGUCCACCCCACCAUCAUAUCAAUUGAGCAUUUGAAGCCAACCAAACUAAUUAUUAUCCAAAGACAGAAAAUUAAUUAAACAGGAUUAGUAUAAAAGAAAAUAACUUGACUUAUAAACAAAAGCAAGGGAGAUGCAAUGGCAAACACAAAGCAAUUUAAAAGGGGCAAGCGAGUAAAGAAACUAACAGUGAUAUAUUAUGAGUUGCCAUAAGUUGAAGUGACUUCCACUUCGGAAAGCCCAAGGCCUUUUAGCCAAUACCGUCAAAGGGGCUUUAUCAUCAUCAGAAUAAAUAUCAUCAUCAGAAUCUUUAGCAUCACCGAAAUUGCAUGUGGCAAGGUCAGGAUAACGUUUAACCAGAUACAGUGCUACAUCUGCAUAUUAUAAAAUUGUACAUGGGAACCCGACAGUAAUUCAUAUCAAGAAAAUAGAUAGGGGAUGGUAAAUAUAGCUCACCAUGAAACCCCACCAUUAGUGCUCUGCGCAGAAGUUCGAUUCCAGGCGAAUUUGAGAAAGGAUAUGGAUCUACAUCAUCUCUGGUGACGCUAAAUAAAUAUAAAGUCAGCUCUUUAUGACCAUACCUAACAGCGCUGUGAAGAGGCGCUAAAUUGCUGUGGCUGCAGAUAUUGGGCAAGCUUGGGUUUUUGUUCACUAACAACUUGGCUGCUUUUAUAUUGCCAGCCCUUGCAGCUUUGAAAAGGGCAGUGGCGCCAUCAGAAUCUCGCAGAGCCAGUGCCUCUCUUGGGACAAACUCAACCAACUUCUCCACGAAACCCAUUCUGGCCUCUCCUAACUCAACUGCUAUGUGAAGCAUUGGGGAAUCAUCUGUUCCGAUCGGAGCGGAGAAUGAUUUUGGAUCAUCCUCCAAUAAUUUUGAAGCACUUUUCCAGUCACCAUUGAGCACAGCUUUGUGCAGUUCCAAGUAGUAGAUUAAUUCUGGUUCAUAGAAUUCUGCAGUCACAAAACCAAAAGAAGUAUAGGUCAGCCUAGAUUUCCCUGAUAUGUAUAUUUCUUCAACGUUCACAACAUCCUAAUACUAAAAUUAUUUAUAAAAAAUAAAUCAUUUCAGUUAUGUUUGGUUCUUAAAAAAUUUGACAAAAAAUAAAAGGGAAAGAAAGUAAAUUAAAAAAAUAGAAGGUAAGAAAGAGUGAAAUAAAAUAGAUCCAAAAUCAAUAAAUUAUUUAUUUUUAUAUGCUACUCAUUUCACUUAUUUUAACUAUUCAAUAUAAAAAUUAAAUAAUUUAAAAUUUCAUAAAUUUAUAAUUAAUUUAAAUUAUAUUUGAUUUUCUUAAAUAUUUUCCUCAAUACAACCAAAUAUGAGAAAAUCAUUUUCCUUGAUAUCUUUUUUUUGCUAAUUAUUUUCUUGGGCUUCUUUGUUUACCUCUAAUCAACAUCUUUAUAUCUUUCAAUAAUAGUUUGAACCUCCAAUAAGCUACACGAAUUAAAAUUUAAUUUUCUUCCAUUUUUUUUUUUAACAGCAGGUUGUAAAACACUUCUACUUGUAUACUAAUUAUGCCCAAAAGUUGCAGGAGGACCUCAAACGGAAAUGGACAUGAACAUGGUUUUCAGCAUCUUACCGGAGCUACUAGUCCUUUGCAAAGAUGAAGAUAAAACCGCUGAAACAUUUUCAUCAGUAUCCUGCGCCAUAUUGAUGCUGCUACAGUUAGGAUUGUUUGGGCUGUCAUCGAUUACCGAGAGUGGUAAUGAAGAGGAAGCCAUUACAGUGAACUCCUCAUCAUGCUCAGCAAUGUCCGUGUUACUGUUUUUAGGACUGUUUGCGCUGUUGUCAUUUCUAAGACGUAGUGAAGAAGAAGAAGCCAUUACAACAAAUUCCUUAUCGUUCUUAUAGUCAUUGCCAUGUUUAGCGAAGUUAUUCUAAUGUGUAAUAGAAAACCUAAACAAAAUCUGCAGUUGACAAAGGUCAAAAUUAACUUACCUCGCAGAUGGAUUUGUUAUCCAUGAUAGAAGAUUAUAUUUAACUAUAUCGAGGCAGGGAAGAUACUCUCAUCCAAAGAGAAACAACAGCAGCCCUUUUUCCUACUGUCUUCAAAAGAUACAGGAAAUAGGCCAGGAACCAUUGAAGCAUAACAGGUGCAAUGGUAGAGUCUUCCAAGUCAACUUUGUUUAUUUAGUUGAGUAAUUGGUAAGCACUAGAUAGCGUUGAAACGUUAUGACUGGUGGAUGAAAAUGGAAAAUAAUAGGCAUAUAUGAUUUAUUCAUAUAUAAAAUAAACAACGAAAAUUAGGGGGUAACUUCGAGCUGUUUGUUUUCACAUGAUUUCUUCUCUCCGUGUUGCUGGGCAUGGAUCUCCACUGACAUAGAAGCAACUAGGUCUUUUCUUUUGCUUUUUCUUUUUAAUUUUUCAUGUUUUAUUUUAAGAUGAUAUCCAGAAGUAGUAGGUAUGGUAUAUGAAUUUCACUUAGAAUGAUAAACAUUCAUAGAGCCAAAUGUAAAUCCGUACUAUUGGGCAUAAUAUUAUCGAGCCAUGCUUGGUUACCGAAAAUUACUCCAAGGUAUCAUACCCACCUUUUAGGCCAAUAAAAUUAAGAAACAUGGCAAGGAAAUUAAAAAAAACCAAUUCUCCAGGUUUAGCAAGGUUGCCGAGGGAAUUAAUCAUGUGCACCACACAUUGCUAUCAUCAUUUACAAUAACCAAUUAUAUAAAAUCUGUUGAAAUAUUUUAUAUAAUUAACUUUUGGAAUUUUUUUAUCAGGUAGUAAAAUAAAGAAAAUUUAGGAAAAAAUAUUUUUAUAAAAUGAUAAAGUUUGACAAAAACGAUAAAUUUUUUGUAAAGUAUUGAAAAGGAUACAAGGCUAUGAAUUCAUAAUUGUAUGAUAACCUUUUAGUAUUUCAAUCUUUGAAUUUUUUUUGGAGAUUAUUUCCAUAAAUUCUAAGGAGAAUUGUGUUUCCACCCUAGCUGGGUUGGAUAAUUGAGGUAAGGUCCUCCUAUCACCCAUAAUUAAAUUCAAAACCCAAGGAAAGAAUAGAAAUUGAGAGGAAGGAUAUCGCUUUUAAAAAAUCCCUAAAAUACCCUUAACUAUCAAAUGAAAAAGCUACCAGUCACUCUUACCUUUCUCUUUUCUUUCUUUGACUUUUUCACCAUUCUCUCACUUAUUUAUUAGUGGGAUCAAGUUAAAUGAUUUACCAAUUAUUUUUCUUCAACAAAUUGAACAUGAAAGAUAAAUAGUUAAAAAUUAUUAUUGUCAAAUGCAUUUUUGAAGUAAAUAAUUUUUAAAUACCUUAUCAAAUAUUAUUCUUUUUUUCAAACUUACAUAAUAUAUAAUAAAUAUUAUUAUUUAUUUCAAACUUAUAUUAUUUCUUAUAUAUAUUAAACAAUUUGUAAACAUCUCAUAAAAUAUUAGUAUUCUUUAUUUGUUCUAACUUGUAAAUUAGACAUCAUUAAAUUUUUUUUUUCAAACUUAUAAAAUAUAUAAUAAAUAUUUUUUAAAUACCUAAGCAAAUAUUUUUUUUGUUUCUUACUUAAAAAAUAAUAAAUAUGUUGUAUAUUAUUUCUCAUUGGUCUUAAUGGCAUAGUUUGGUAAAAAAAACAAAAAAGAGAAAAAAAAAAAACAAUCAAUAAUCGUUCUAAUGUCAAACUCAAGUUGAUUAAAAAACAUACAAAACCUAUUAGGAGUCCUGUACACCCUUGUACACUUGACAUAUUUCCCUUAUACAAUUAGUGUAAUAUCAUACAGUGGUGCAAAUUUCAUUUCCCUCCUAAUUUAUUGUCCAUGUAGGUGUAUUAAACAUAUUUUUAAUCAUUUGGUUGAGAAAAUUGUGGAUGACUUAUGGUUAAAUUUUUUUCCACCGACAUCAUUAUUGGGGAAAACAUUAGAAUUUCCAUAUGGGAAUUAAAUAAAGUGUAUGACAUGAGUAUACAAUUCUUGGGCGACAAGGAAAAUAAAGGAGUAAUUCAUAAUCGAUUGAAAUUUUUCACAAAUACUAGUUUUGUACAUCCUUGUACACUUAAUAUAUUUCUCUUAUAUAAUUAGUGUAAUGAGUAUACAAUUCUUGGGUGACAAGGAAAAUAAAGGAGUAAUUCAUAAUUGAUUGAAAAUUUUCACAAAUGCUAGCAUUGUACAUCCUUGUACACUUAAUAUAUUUCUCUUGUACAAUUAGUGUAGUACCCUUGUACAGUUAAUGUAACACCCUUGUACAGUGGUACAAAUUUCAUAUUCUUCCUAAAUUAUGUAUCCACGUAGGUGUGUUAACCAUGUUUCUAAUUGUUUGGUUGAGAAAAUAUUGGAUGACUCUGGGUCAAAUUUUUUUCCCUAAACAUCAUUGCUAGGGAAAGUAUUGAAAUUUUUAUGUGAGAGUUAAAUAAAGUGUAUGACAUGAGUGUACAAUAUGUUGGCAACAAGGAAAGUAAAAUGGAGUGGUUCAAAAUCGAUUGAAAUCUUUCACAAAAGGUAACCUUAUACACCCUUGUACACUUAGUACAUUUUCAUUGUACAGUUAGUGUAAUACCCUUGUACAAUGACACAAAUUUCAUAUCUCUCUAAGUUAUGUGUUCACAUAGGUGUAUUAAUCAUAUUUUCAAUGGUUUGAUUGAGAAAAUGGUGAAUGACUUAGGGUCAAAUUUUUUUCUCCAAACAUCAUUACCGUAGAAAGUAUUGAAAUUUCCAUGUAGAAGUUAAAUAAAGCGUAUGACUUAGGAUUAAACUCUUUUAAGUCUUUUUAUUAUUUUCAUAUGAAAAAAUAGUAUUAAACAAGGUUUUGAAUUUUCAUUUUUAAAAAUAGUUUUCAUUUUUUAAUUAAACAUAUUUUCUAAAAGAGACCAUAUAGAAAAUAAAAAUUAUUUAAAAAAUAAUAAAAAAUAAAAAAUAGAAAAAUAUUUUUAAACCAAACUCAAACACAAUCUAUAUAAUUUUUAUUUUUAUUUAUCUGAAAUGAGUAAAUAUACCUUUUAACCCUUUUAUUUAAGAAAAAUUUAAUAUCUACUAUAUAUAGUUAUAAUUCACUUCUAAAAUUAAGUCAUACAAAAACAUUUUAAUUGUAUAUUUAAAAUAAAAACUCUUCAUCCAUCCUAUUUCUCUCUUUUACUCUUUUUUUUUGGAUAAAUUUUCAAUUAAUUCAAAUCAUUAAAAAAAAAUCUUUAUUAAACAAAUUUACAACAUUUCAUAUAACUUAUUACUAAAAGUCAUGUUCAAAAAGUUAUUAAAACAAGAAAGAAAGAAUUUUUUUAAAAAUAAAAAAGUAAAAAAUUGAACCUUUUAGUUUAUAAUAGGAAAAAGAAAAUUUUAAAAUACUUUUUAGUAUAAAAGAAAAGAAAAUAGUGAAUGUAUUUAUUUUAAAUAGUGUUUUAAUCAUUAAAUUAUUUACUUCUAAAAUAUAAAAGAUAAUUUUUAUUUAUUUAAAUUAACAUUUUUUAGAAAACAUUUUUCAAAAUAGUUUUUAAAUCAUCAAUAUAAUUUUUGUUUAUUUAUAAUUUAAAAAUAUAAAAUAAUGUUAAUUUUUCAAUUAUUUAUAAAAAAGUUUAAAAAAACCAAUGAAAAAUAAAAAAAUGGUUAAAGAAGAGAGAAUGUGUUAAUAGUGGCAUGUAAAGAGUGGUAGAAUAAAGACAAAAAUGAGUAAAGGGGUAUUUGUGUCCAUUAUCAUCUCAUCUCCUUGUAAUCAAUUAUGAGUGAUAGGAGGACUUUAGCUUAAUUAUCCACCCCAACUGGGGUGAAAACACAAUUCUCCCUAAAUUCUAUAUUCCAAAAACAAUGAUAAUAUUUACACAAUAUUAUUGUCAUUCAAAGUGGGAAAAAAAUAUACAAAUAAAAAUUUCAAAAAAAAUUAGAGAUUACAAAGAAUAUAAGGAUACGAUGAAUGUGAGGAUUGUCAUAUUUUUCAUACCCUCCUCACAUUCUUCAUGCCCCAACUCAUUUGAAUAUUUUAAUCUUUUAAUUUUUCCAAACAUUAUUUACUUCAAUUGCAAGUGUAAUUAGUGUUUUUACACAAUAUUAUUGUCAAAUGAAGUAAAAAAAAAAUUCAAAAUUAAAAUUUUUAAAACAUUUAGAGGGUACAAAAAUGUGAAGAGGGUACAAAGAAUGUGAAGAGCCUCGCAUUUCUUGUACCCUCCUCACAUUCUUCAUACCUAUUGCAAUUUUAAAAUUUUUUAAUCUUUCAAUUUUUUCGAACAUUAUUUGCUUCAAUUUCAAGUGUAAUUAAGAUUUUUACCCAAUAUUAUCAUCUAGUGAUGUGAAGAAAAACUUAAAAUUAAAAAAUUUUAGAGGGUGCAAAAAAUGUGAGAAUAGUAUGAUGAAUGUGAGGAGGGUGCAAGGAAUGUAAAAAGGGUAUGAGAAAUGUGAGGGUACAAGAAAUGAAUAUAUAUAUAUAUAUCAUACUCUCCUCACUUUAUUUGUACCCCUACAAAUUUUUUAAUAUUUUAAUCUUUUAAUUUUUUUGAACAUUAUUUGCUUCAAUUUCAAGUGUAAUUAGUCUUUUUACAAUAUAUUAUUGUCAAGUUACUUAAAAAUAAAAAUUUAAAACAAUUUAGAGGGUACAACAAAUGUGAGGAGGGUGCGAGAAAUGUGAAGAGGGUACAAGAAAUGAAAAAACAAUAAAAAAUAAAUUUCUUGUACUCUCCUCACAUUCUUUGUAUUCCCACCAAUUUUUGAAUAUUUUAAUUUUUUUCGAAUAUUAUUUGCUUCAAUUUCAACAAAAUUCUUGUACCCUCCUCACAUUUUUCAUACCCCACCAAUUUUGUAAAAUUUCAAUAUUUUAAAUUUUUUUUAACAUUAUUUAUUUCAAUUUCAAGUGUAUUGAGUCUUUUUACACAAUAUUAUUGUUGAGUGAAGUGAAAAAAAACAUAAAAUUAAAAUUUUCAAAAAAUUUAAACAAAAAAUGUCAAAAGGGUAUGAAGAAUGUGAAUAUGGUACAUGAAAUGUGAGGGUAUAAGAAAUGAAAAAACUAAAUUCUCAUACCCUUUUCACAUUUCUCGUACCUUCCUCACAUUCUUUGUAACUUCACAAACUUUUGAAUACUUUAAUCUUUUAAUUUUAACUCAUCUAACCCUUAUAAACAGUGUCAUCAAGGAAUAUGAGCUCAAAAUAAGAACCAUUGGGAUCCAUAGGAGUACUAGCUCUCUUAGAAUAAUAUUUUGAAAUUGAUUCAACAUCUCACUACAAAGAGUCAACUGCACUUUAAUACCCUAUGUAUAUUACAACAAGACACCAAGUACUUGGAUAUGUGAUCUACUAUCUAUUGCAUGCAAACUCUCUAUAAACCGGUGUCUGUAAUCUAAUAAGGUAGUGUUGUCACCUAUCAAAAUUACCCCUCAAAUCCUUUAGUUACAGAUCUCACUUAUUAUGUGAUCAAAUGACAUUCUACCUCCAAAGAGCAUAUGUUAAAUUCCACUAAAGGAAUUACUAUGGCCACAUAUUUCAUUAUCACAUGUCCUCUGGAUCACCCCAGGGGACAUAUUGUCUCAAUCCCAUGAGAUAUCAUGGUGCCUCUAUUGAGAAUACCUAUUGUCAUCAACCUCCAUAAACAGUGACCCAAUUCAUAGGGAUAUAUGACCACUUUAGGGUUUCACUCAUAGGUUAAAGUCUUCUAUUAAUUUUGGCACAAACUCAAUAUCCUCUAAGGUUGAGAGUCUAUGCAUUAUAGUAGCUUGGUGAAUCAUGACAAUUGAUAGUCUUGCAUCAUGAUUCACCGUAGGUCCUAUCUAGUGUGUAUCACAUACACUAGUACACUCAUCAUAGGAAACCCAUCCCAAUGACCAAGACCAGUCAUCCCUCCAAUUAGGAGGUAAUGCACUAUAGUCUUUCCACUUUGGAAAGCCCAAGGCCUUUUAGCCUAUACCAUCAAAGGGGCAAAAUCAUCAUUAGAAAGCAUCAUCGUGGCAAGCGGAAUCGAAAUUGCAUGUGGCAAGGUCAGGAUAACAUUUAACCAAAUACAGUGCUACAUCUACAUAUUGUAAAAUUGUACAUGGGAACACAACAAUAAUUCAUAUCAAGAAAGUAGAUAGGGGAUAGUAAAUAUAGCUCACCAUGAAAUCUCACCAUUAGAGCUAUGUACAGAAGUUUGAAUCCAGGCAAGUCUGGGGGAAGGACUUGGAUCUACAUAUCUUUGGUGACGCUUAAUAAAUAUAAAGUUAGAUCUUCAUGACCAUAGCUAACAGCGGAGUGAAGUGGCGUUUAAUUGUUGCAUUGGCAAAUAUUGGGCAAGCUUGGCUUUUUGUUCACUAACAACUUGGCUGUUUUAUAUUGCCAGCCCUCAGAAUGUUGAAAAAGGCAAUGGCGUUAUCAGAGUCCUGCAAAUCCAGUGCCUCACUUGGCAUGAACUCAACCAACUUCUCCACAAAACCCAUGUUGGCCACUCCUAACUCAAUUGCUAAGUGAAGCACUGGGGCACCAUCUGUUCCAAUCAGGGCAGAGAUUGAAUUUGAAUAAUGCCUCAAGAAUAUUGAAGCACUUUUCCAAUCACCAUUGAGUACAGCUUGGUAUAGUUCCAAAAAAAAGGUUAAAUCUUUUUUAAAUAAUUUUGCAGUCACAAAACCAAAAGAUGUAUAGGUCAGCAUAGAUUUCCCUGAUAUGUAUCUUUAUUUCUUCAACAUUCACAACCUCCUAAUACUAAAAUUAUCUUUUAAAAAAAUAAAUCAUUUAAGUUAUGUUUCCUUCUCAAAAAAUUUGAGAAAAAAUACAAAAAAAAAAAUAAACAAAAAAAAUAGAAAGAAGGAAAAAGUGAAAAAUAAAAAUAAAAAAUAGACUUAAAAUCAAUAAAUUAAUUAUUUUUAUAUGUUAUUUUAAACUCAUUUUCCUUGAUAUCUCUUCUUUCCUAAGUAUUUUCUUGGAACCAAACAUAAAAGUUUUAUCUAAAUUUACCUCUAAUCAAAAUCUUCAUAUCUUUCAAUAAUAGUUUGAACCUUUAAUAAACUGCACCAAUUAAAAUUUAAUUUAAUUUAGUUUCUUUUUUUUGCUUUUUUUUAAUAGUGGGUUUUAAAACACUUCAACUUACAUAAUAAAUAUGCCCAAAAGUUGCAGGAGGACCUCAAACGGAAAUGGACAUGAACAUGGUUUUCAGCAUUUUACCGGAGUUGCUAGAGGAAACCACUUAAACAUAUUCAUCGGUAAGGUGAGCAAUUUCGAUGACCUUAUUUCUUUCCGAUGAUGAAGGGGAAGAGACUGAAGCAUAUUCAUCAGCAUUAUGCACCAUAUUGAUGCUACUACAGUUAAGAUUGUUUGGACUUGUAGGAAGAGUGUAAAAAAAAUUUUAUUCUAUUUUAUUCGAUUAGUCUUAUUUUUUGGGAAGAAUCCUGUUGGGAAUUAUAUUUAUUUUAUUUUAUUCUAUUAGUCUUAUAUUUAUGGGAAAAGUCCUAUUGGGAUUGUGCUAGUGGAGUCUCACUUCUUUCAUAAGUAGAAUCCCCUUCCACUUUGAGUCAUGUUCUGAUUACAAGUGUUAGUGGCCUAUAAAAGAAGGUCACCUCUCACUCUCUAAAUAUGAAUACCAAUUUUUUAGAGAGUCUUUUCAUACAUCUAUCUGGAUGAAUAUUUUCAAAACUCGAGUUGUACACAUCUCGCUUACUGAGUACACCCAAGGCGAGAUAUGGUUGUUGAAUCCUGGAGGUAGACCACUGGUACCUUAUAGCAUCGAGUUCGUCUUUGAAGAAGGUGGAUCUAUUUCAAGGACGGUGUUUGUCAUGCCUCAGUCGAUAAGUUUUUCUUCUUAUUAAUUCUAUUCUUUGUUUGUGUCUUUUGGGCUAGUCAUUUGUUUCCAUACCCUUAAAUCCAAUAAUCUUGAAAUAUAUCCAAACGGAAGCUUCUCUAGUUCACACCUAUCCUGACACCUCUAAAAUUGAUCCCUUCAAUGGGACAUUCUUUAAGAAAUGGCAGGAAAGGGUUUUAUCUACGAUUGAUGUAGAGAACUUGGGACACAUUUUGACUUACCCAAAACCAGAAUAUGGUUCUCAUCUGUUACCAACUUGGGAAACUGGAAAUAAACAAGUUAGUCAUGCUAUUCAGAGUACCCUUUCUAAUGAACUUUUUUAUAUUUAUCGUUAAUUUAAAGUUGCAAAAGAAAUUUGGGAUGCAAUGAAUAAAAAAUAUAUUUUGGAAGAUGCAGGAACUCAGAAAUAUGCCAUAAGGAAUUUUAGAAAUUUCCAAAUGACCGAGGAUAGAGAUGUAUCAUCUCAAAUCCAUGACUAUCACUUGUUGAUUAAUGACUUAGCUAUUGAAGACAUUAAAUUACCCGAACCUUUUGUGGCUGGUUAUUUAGUAGAGACUCUUCUAGAGUCUUGGAAAGACUAUAAAAAUAACAUGAAACAUAAAAUGAAACACAUGUCCCUAGAGGAUGUCAUAAUCCAUAUUAGGAUUGAGGAAGAAAACCGAAAUAGGGACAAUGUUAAGAAAGUUAAGGAAUUGUCUUCUAAGCCUAAUGUAGUAGAAGGAAAACCUAAACCCAAAAACAAUAGGUCCAGGAAACAAAACUCUAGGACCAAACCCUAUGCAUCAAACAAGGUCCAGAACUCAACUAUUAAAAAAUGGGGUAAUUGCUUUGUCUGUGGCAAGUCUGACACCAUGCAGUUCAAUGUCGCCACAGGAAGAGAACUAAGAAGUCCCAUUCAAAGGCAAAUCUGGCAGAGACAGGGGUGAUCAUAGUAGUAAUGUCCUCUAAGGUGAGCAUGGUCACCAAUAUGAAGGACCGGGUGGUAGACUCUAGGGCUACCAGGCACAUCUAUGGGAAUAGAAGUGCAUUUACUUCCUAUACCACUAUAAAGGAAGGAGACGAACAAGUGUUCAUGGGUGAUUCUAGAUCUACUACAAUGAUUGGCAAAGGGAAAGUUCUCGUUAAGCUAACCUCUGGAAAAGUGCUUGCCCUUAGUGAUGUUCUUCAUGUGCCAGAUAUCCGCUAGAACUUGGUGUCAGUAUCUCUGCUUGGGAAAGCAGGAGUGAGGAUCUUGUUUGACUUUGAUAAAAUAGUUUUAACCAAGAAUAAUGCAUUUAUGGGAAAGGGCUAUUGUAAUCAAGGUUUAUUUAUGUUGAAUGUUUCUAAUAUUAUCAAUAAUAAUGCAUCUUCUUCUUCUGCUUACAUAGUUGAUUCUUGUGAUAUUUGGCAUGGUAGACUAGGACAUGUGAACUUUUCAUAUAUGAAGAAAAUGGUUGAAUUGAGUUUAAUCCCUAAACUAUCAUUAGAAAACCAUGGAAAAUAUGAAUCUUGUGUAGAAUCUAGAACCACAAAGAAAUCUUGUAAAUCAGUUGAAAGAGAAUCAGAUCUACUAAGUUUAAUACAUAGUGACUUAGGAGACCUAAAAAAAUACAAUGACUAGAGGUGGUAAACGGUUCUACAUAACUUUCCUAGAUGACUACUCAAGGUAUAUAAGGGUAUAUCUUUUGAGAAACAAAGAUGAAGUAAGAGAUGCUUUCAUAAAGUACAAAAAUGAAGUGGAAAAUCAACUAAGCAAGAAAAUUAAAAGGCUUAGAACAUAUAGGGGAGGAGAGUAUGAGUCCAACCCCUUUAAUUCUUUUUGUGAAGAUCAUGUGAUCAUUCAUGAAACUACUCCUCCUUAUUCCCUUGAGUCUAAUGAAGUAGCAGAAAGGAAAAAUAGGACCUUAAAAGAAAUUAUGAAUGCAAUGUUGGUAAGUUCAGGAGCACCUUUGAACUUGUGGGGGGAAGUUAUCCUAUCCACAUGUCAUAUUCAAAAUAGAAUAUCUUACAAGAAAACUGGUAAAACUCCUUAUGAGUUGUGGAAGGGUUAUGCACCUAAUAUAGCAUACCUGAAAGUGUGGGGGUGUUUAGCUAAAUUUCUUCUCCCUGAACGUAAAAACGAAAACUAGGUCCUAAAACCUUUGAUGCAAUGUUCAUUGGCCAUGCUGAGAAUAGUACGAUAUAUAGGUUUCUUGUUACUAAGUUAGAUAACAGCCUUGUAGAUGUCAAUACUAUAAUAGAAACAAAGAAUGCAAGUUUCUUUGAAAACAUCUUUCCUAUGAAACUAAAUGGUGAACAACAAGUUUAGAAAACAAGUAGAGACAAGUCUAUUGAACCUUCUGAAUUUGAACUUAGAAUGAGUAAAAGAGAUAGGAAAUAAAAAAACCUUGGAGAUGGUUUCUACUCCUUCCUAAAAGAUGAGGACCCUAGAUCCUAUAAAGAAACUAUAACUUCUCUUGAUACACCAUUCUGAAAGGAGGCCAUUAACAGUGAAAUCGAAUCAAUCAUGUACAACCAUACAUGGGAGUUAGUAGAUUUACCUCCUUGUGAAAAGACUAUUUGUUGUAAGUGGAUCUUUAAAUGAAAGUUAAAACAAGAUGGGUCCAUAGAGAAGUAUAAAGUUUGUUAAUUUGCCAAAGGCUUUAAACAAAGGAAUGAUGUAGAUUACUUUGACACCUUUGCCCUAAUGACUAGAAUAGCGUCAAUUAGUGUAUUGAUCAAUCUAGCUUCCAUUCAUAAUUUGGUGAUACACCAAAUGGAUGUCAAAAAUGCAUUCUUGAAUGGGGAUCUAGAAGAGGAAAUUUAUAUGGAACAACCUGAGGGUUGUGUAGUUCCAGGGAAGGAGAAAAAGGUGUGUAAGUUGGUUAAAUCAUUAGAUGGAUUAAAACAAGUUCCCAAACAAUGGCACAACAAGUUUGAUCAUGUGUUAAUAACUAAUGGAUAUUCCAUUAAUGAUGCUGAUAAGUGUAUCUACAGCAAGUAUGAGAAUAACACAUGUGUAAUCAUCUGCCUUUAUGUUGAUGACAUGUUGAUCUUUGGAACUAGCCUAGAGGUUGUGCGUGAGACCAAGAAAUUCCUAGGUUCUAAGUUUGAUAUGAAAGACCUAGAAGAGGCAGAGGUGAUUCUAGGAAUUAAAAUAACUAAAACACCUAAUGGGCUUAAACUUUCUCAAGAGCACUAUGUUGAAAAGAUCCUAAGGAAGUUUGAACACUUUGAUUGUAAACCAGUGUCAACUCUUUAUGAUCCCAGCUCACAGCUGAAGAAAAAUAGAGAACAUAGUGUUGCCCAAAUAGAGUAUGCUCAGAUCAUAGGGAUCUUAAUGUACUUAAUGAAUUGUACCAGACCUGACAUUGCUUAUGCAGUAGGUAGAUUGAGUCGGUACACCCAAAGUCCUAAUAAGGACCAUUGGACUGUUGUUCGUAGAGUCCUUAAGUAUUUGAGAGGCACCAUUAACUAUGGUUUGUGCUUAGUGGAUUUCCAAUUGUCCUUAAAGGAUUUAGUGAUGCAAAUUGGAUCUUAGAUUCAAAUGAGAUGAAAUCCACUAGUGGAUAUGUUUUCAUCCUUGGUGGAAGUGCAGUUUCUUGGAAGUCUGCCAAGCAAACUUGCAUUACUCGGUCUACUAUGGAGGUUGAGUUUAUGGCCUUAGAAAAGGCAAGUUUUGAGGUUAAGUGGCUUAGAAACCUCUUAACAGAUAUCUCUUUUUGGACGAGACCGGACCUGUCUAUGUCUAUACAUUGUGAUAGUCAAGCUGCAAUCGCUAAGAGUAAAAUAUUUAAUGGGAAUAACAAACAUAUACGCCUAAGGCACAAUAUUAUGUGGUAACUGCUUGAAAUAGGGGUUAUAUCCCUAGAAUUUGUGAGGUCAGAGUUGAAUUUGGAUGAUCCUUUGACCAAACCACUAAAUAAAAAACUAGUGGAAGAAACAUCGAAGGGGAUGGGGCUUAUGCCUAUUACAGAAGUCAAGAGUGGUGGUAACCCAACCUAUUAAAAUGGAAAUUCCAUGAAGUAGGUUCAUGUGGAUAAUAACAAAUCACUUGUUGACUUGAGGCACUUUAUUAACUCUAAUUGUAUGAGAGUCUAUCCCUAUGGUGUAGAUAGAGCGUAUUCAACAUUGAUUAAGGUUGAGUGUUUACUCUUAAUGAAUACCAUAUUCCUUAUGGAUGGUAUGUUUAAAUGCAUAACAUACUAGAUAGAUUCACCUAUAUGAGAGUGGAGGUGGGGUCGCUUCCUAUGAGAACUUAGGCAGGUUCUCUAGAGCUCUCAUGAAUAUCCAGGUAGGGUGCAUGACCUAUUUGUGCCAACCCGUUUGUACAGCUCGUAGUGUAGUUGAGAAAACCAAUGUGGAUAAAAGUCCCUUGAGUUACAUCGAGAAACAGUGGUUCAUAGAAAUUUAUUUUCACCGUGUUUUGUGAUUCAAUACUUAUUUGUCCUAAGAAUGGUUCAUAGCCUUUGGGCAAUAGUACUAAUGGAUUGGAUUCUUUUUUCCUCCAAAAAAAGAAAAAAAAAAUCACAUUUACACUAUGUGGGGGAUUGUAUGAAGUGUGUAAAUAAUUUUUUUUUUGAUUUUAUUCUAUUAGUCUUAUAUUUUUGGGAAGAAUCCUAUUGGGAAUUAUUUUUAUUUUAUUAGUCUUAUAUUUUUAGGAAGGGUCCUAUUGGGAUUGUGCUAGUGGAGUCCCAUACCUUUUAUAAAUAGAAUCCCCUUUCACUUUGAGUCAUGUUAUAAUUACAAGUAGAGUCCCAUUGGGACUGUGUUAGUGGCCUAUAAAAGAAGGUCACCCCUCACUCUCUAAAUAUGAAUACCAAUGUUUCAGAGAUUUUUUCAAAGAAUUUUUCAAAGUCUUUUCAUACAUCUAUCUGGAUGAAUUUUUUCAAAACCUGAGUUGUACACAUCUCGCUUAUAGAGUACACCAAAGGUGAGAUUUGGCUGUUGAAUCCUGGAGGUAGACCACUAAUACCCUACUGCACCGAGUUCGUCUUCGAGGAGGUUGGAUCUAUUUCAAGGACAGUGUUUGUCACACCUUAGCCGAUAAGUUUUUCUUCUCAUUAAUUAUGUUCUUUGUUUGUGUCUUUUGGGCUAGUCAUUUGUUUCCAUAUCCUUAAAUCCAACAGGACUGUCAUCGAUUAUGAGAGUGGUAAUGAAGAGGAAGCCAUUACAUCAAAUUCCUCCUCAUGCUCAGCAAUGUCGAUUUUACUGUUGUUAGGACUAUUUGCGCUGUUGUCAUCUUUAGGAUGUGGUGAAGAAGAAGAAGCCAUUAUAUCAAAUUCCUUAUCAUGUUGAUAGCCAUUCCCAUGUUUAGUGAAGUUAUUAUAAUGUGUAACAGAAAACCUAAACAAAAUCUGAAGUUGACAGAGGUCAACAUUAACUAACUUACCUCGCAGAUGGAUUUGUUAUCCACGAUGGAAGAAAUAUUUAACUAUACCAAGGCAAAGAAGAUACUCUUAUCCAAAGAUAAACAACAACAACCCAUUUUUCCCACUAUCCUCAAAAGAUACAUAAAAUCGACCAAGGACCAUUGAAGCAUAAGAGGUGAAAUGGUGAAGUCUUCCAAGUCAACUUUGUUUAUUAAUUAGUUGAGUAUUUUCUAAGAAGUAGAUAGUGUUGAAACGUUGACCGGUGGAUGACAAUUGAAAAUAAUAAGCAUAUAUGAUUUAUCCAUUUUUUAAUGGUAGGAUUUCCCUCAAGCUAUUGUCAAAUAUAGAUAUAACCCCCUUGGUGCCCUGUUUGCAUCACAUCAUUAGUUUUGAUUUUUCUUUUUUUAUAGAAAUUAUGCCUAAUUGACAAAACUCUUAAUUAUAUAUUUAUAUAUAUAUAUAUAUGAAAAUUUCACCGAAAUAUCGCAUUUUAGUUGUUGUAGAAAUGAAAUAGGGUUGCAAAAUAUCGGAGGGGUGAAAUUAAAAAAAAAAAAUCAGCAUGUUUUGUCGAUAUUUUGGAUUUUUACCUAUUUAUCAACAAUUUUGCCGAUUUUUCAAUUUGGUCAAUGCGCAGGUGGUCUGGUCAAUGCGUAGUGAAAUGGUCAAACCCUUAAAAAUCUUAAAAUGUGACUUGUUGUAGGCACUAGGACUCUAAUCCAAACCCAAAACAAACAAACAUAGCCUUGGUCGACCAGUAGGCUAACUUGCCUAUUUAUUAAAGUAAAGGCACCAUAUAAAUAUAUCAUAAAACCGUCAUAAAAAAGAUAUUAAAAGAAUAUUUUAAUAAACAAAUUAUUUCUAAUUAUUUUAUUUUAAAUUUCAUUUAAUUGAUCACUAAAAAUAUAAAAAAUGUAGCUAUAAUUUUCUUAACAGAUUUUUUUUAUAUCAUUUAUAUAUUAAUUAAAUAUAAAAAUAUGAAUAUUAAAAAAAUUAUGCAUAUAUGAUCAUUUAUUUUAUAUCAUCUAAUACAAUUGAAAUUAAAUGGAUUAUAAUUUUAAAAUUAGAUAUACUAUAAUCAAAUAUUACAACAUUAUUGUUGAAUAAUAUUUAAUAUAAUUUAAUAAUAAAUAUAUAUUUAUAAAAUUCAUAUUUUUUUAUCAACCAUAUGAAAUUAUUAUCAAAUAUGAUUAACUAUAUCAUAUACAUAUACCAUUUUCUUUUUAUAAAAUAACUUUAAAAUAUCAAUUAUUGCUUAUUAUAUCGUUUUUAUAGUUUUCUUAUCAAUUUUGGGCUUACUGAUAUUUUGUGUCAAAAUAUCUAUCGAUAUAUCUAAUAUAUCCAUAAAAUCAAAGUACCGAUCUAUCUAUGAUUAUCGAUAUUUUUAUCUUUAUAUAUAUGCCUUUUAAGUAUGGUAAUAGCUAGAAAAAUAAAGUACGAUGUCAAAAUUACUAAGAAGGUUACUUGACCAAUUGACAAGGUAAAAUGUCAAGAAUACUUAAAUAUGAGUAAUCAUGGUAAAAAUACAAUAAACUUACUGGAAAUAAAUUCUUUUCAUUCAAUGUAUAACAACAUUUGUGAUUGAGGAAUAGGGUUACUAGAAGUUAGGAGUUGCAGGAUGACCUCAAGUGACCCAUAUAAGGCAUUUUUACUCAUUACACAUGGUUUAUAUAUAUAAGACCUACAAUUAGGUCUAUAGAAGAUGAAUUGAAAAGAUAAUUUAGACAUUUCAUCAUGUUUUGUCUUCGUACAUAGAAAUUUUCAGACUUACUCAACCUUUGCGCAAUUACAUUUAGGUUUUAUUCCUUAAACAAUAUAUUUUUUUAAAUUAAACUAGAAAAAUUGGAUGAAAAUGAAAUUCAUGCUUUUGGACAUAAACAACAUGCAAUUGUAUGCAUUAAUAGAAAUUUUGCAUUUAACAAUCUUUGUAGUAGUUACUUUUUUAGGCGUUAUGAACUCUUAAACAUAAUUUUCCUUUUCUUUUUCUUAUUAAAACUAGAAGUCUUAGAUAAAAAUAUGGCUUCUUGCUUAUGAGAUUCUCUUCAAUCUCUAAGAGAUAUUUGGUGAUAUGGGUAGAUCAACUAGUCAAGUUGCUCUUAAAACUAUUAUGAAUACCAAGAUGACAGAAGGAACUCUCAUUAGAAAUUAUAUGACUCAUAUAACUAGACUCUUUAACAAGAUGGGGAUUCUUAGAGCUAAAAUCAAUGGUGAGACCAAGGUCAAUAUGAUCUUAGAGACCUUAUUGGAUUCCUUCAAACAGUUAAAGCUCAACUAUUCCAUGGAUAAGAUGUUGAUGAACUAGCCAGAGUUGAUGAGGGAACUCUAAAUGGUUGAGGGGAUUUUCAAAGAACAAAGGGUUGUUCAUAUGGUAGUUAGAGGUUCUUUAGGUUUUUCUAACAAUAAAAAGAAGAAAUAGAAAAACACUAAAUAGGGAAUGUCCAAGGUUAGGAAAGGAAAUAACAAAGGAAAGGGCAAGUGCUUCCUUUGUGGCAAAAAGGUCAUUAGAGAAAAAAUCACUUCACUACCUAAACAAAAAAAAAAAAAGGAACAUUUCAUUCACUUUUAGUUGAAUCUUGCUUAGUGGUGGAUUCUACCAUUUCAUGGUAGAUAGAUUUUAGGGCUACUGACCAUAUUUGUAAUUAACUAUUCCAUGAAUAAGAUAUUGAUGAACUAGCCAUAGUUGAAGAGGGAACUCUAAAUGGUUGAGGGGAUUUUCAAAGAACAAAGGGUUGUUCAUAUGGCAGUUAGAGGUUCUUCAAGUUUUUCUAAUGAUAAAAAGAAGAAGAAUAAGAACAAUUUCAAAAAAACAUUGAAUAGGGAAAGUCCAAGGUUAGGAAAGGAAAGGGAAAGUGCUUCCUUUAUGGCAAAAAGGGUCAUUUGAAAAAAAUAUGACUUAACUUCCUAAAGAAAAAAAAUUACAUUUCGUUCACUUUUAGUUGAAUCUUGCUCAAUAGUGGAAUCCACCAAUUCACGAUAGAUAGAUUUUGGGGCCAUUGACCAUAUUUGUAAUUCUUUACAAGGAUUCUAACUAAGGAGAACAUUGAAUGAAAGCAACAUAUACUUGAUUCUAGCUUCUUAUGCAAGAAUAGUAGUGUAGGCGCUAAGAGAUGUUACCCUAGUAUUAGGCAUAAAUUUUAAAAGGUGUGAUUUAGGCGUGCCUAGGUGCAAGGCAGCACAACGCGAAGCUCUAGCACCUUGCCUUACUCUAAGCACAACUCACUAAGGAAGGCACUACUUAAGGGUGUAAGACCCUCGCCUUCAGUUAGGUGUAAAGCUCUGGAGACGUGUGCUUCUUCCAUUUUUUUUCUUCUAGAGAGGUGUGUCUUCCAUUCUUUUCAUCCAUUCUUCUUCUUAUUCUUUUCUUUAUCACGAUCUAUUAGGGCCUUUUUUUUUUUUUUUUAUUUCACCUCAAAACACAACAUUUUUAGUUGAACAAUUUUAUUUAUUUUUUAAAUAUCUAAGCUAUAAUCGGAUUGUGACAAAGAAAAGAAGAAGAAGAACUGAAGAAAAAGAGAUGAGAAAAAAUAUAUAUAUGUAUUGCUCCAAGUUUUAUGAGCUUUCUCAAUUAGAUUUUUUUCUUUUUCUUUUUGGAUAAUAUUUGAUGAAAUAUGUGCUUAGGACAAAUAAAUGGUUAUUAAUUUUAAUUAUAUUAUAUGUGAAUUAUGGUGCACCUCACUUCACUACAAUUUGCACCUUAGGUUGCACCUUACACCUAGGCUCCAUGAGGACAUUAUGCCUUAGAUGUGUCUUGCACCUUUUAGAACUAUGGUAUUAGAUAAUAAAGGUCAUCUUAAACUUAAGCAUUAUAUUUACUUACUUGAGUCUAGAAAGAAUCUUAUUUUUAGUUUUUGACUAAGUAAACACAAUUACUUGGUUUAUUUUAAUGAAAAGGUUUUUAUUAGAAAAAAAAAUUCAUUUAUUUGUUCAGGCCCAUUUGGAUGACGAUCUAUAUCAUAUCACUUCAUCUCAUUUAUGAUUGUGUUGAGAAAAUCAAAUCUCAUUAAAGAGGAAAGUACCUAGCAUUAAUCAAACCUUGUUAUGACAUCUUAACCUAGGUCAUAUUAAUCUAAAUAAGAUCCAAAGAUUAGCUAAGUUUGGAACAUUGCACUUUUUUGUUCUAGAGGAUCUUCUAGUAUAUGAAUCCUGUAUAGAAUGUAAAAUGAUUGACAAACCCUUUAUAACUAAAAGACUUAGAGACAAAGAUUAUUUGGAAGUAAUGCAUGCUAAUGUGUAUAGACCUUUUAAUGUCCAUGUACAUGGAGGACAUGAAUAUUUCAUUACCUUUAUUGAUGAUUACUCUAGGUAUGGUUAUUUUUAUCUUAUGCAUAUGAAAUUUGAUGUCUUGGAUAAGUUCAAGAAGUUCAAGGUGGAAUUGAAAAAGUAUUUGUUGGGAACUUCAAAUUACUCCAUUCCCUGGCCUCGAACCACAUAGGGUGCAUGCAUCUAUCCUAGGCUUUUCUCAAUCUAAUGUAGUGGGAAUAUAUAGUAUCAAGAACUAUAUUAAGAUCUAGAUCUAGAGGUUAAAGUAUCACACCUACAAUCUGGAUGUUCCAAGAUCAAUGCAUGUUUGAUGCAAAUUCUAAAACUGCGGUAGUCAUCGUAGAAUUUGUCUACCCAAGAGUCUUCUAUUUGAUCUCUCCCUCCAUGGGUCUAAGCAUAAGAGAAGGGUAGGCUUCUCUCUCUCCCAUGAGGGUAGCUAGGGUUUCUCUUUGGAGGCUUUCUCUCUAGAGGCUUUCUACUUCAAAAUGAUAGGCAAAAGUUUGAAACCCUAAACCUUAAAAGGGUAUUUAUUGGGCGCCUUGUGGGUUUCAAUUACUUGAUCUCAAAUUAGGCUUAAGUCACUAAUCUAGCCUACCUAGGUCCUACUUAAUUAAUUAGGCCUAUUAGUUGUCUCUUCAUUCCAUCGAUUACUGGUAUUGUGUGUGAUACCAGACACACCGACAACCAAUUAGUUGCAUUUUGCAUAAUUUCCUUACAAACAAUCCUAGGAGUGAUAUUGCCCAUGAUAAGAUCGAACUACACAUUUUUAUUAUGGUGGCAUUACUACACGGAAUAAACCAAAAGGGAGUUUGGUUCCUUAGUGAAAUUUUUUAGUACAUUAUUUCCCUACCACAACAACGACAAUCAAUUCUACCCACCAGAAUUAUUUUCCACAGUUAACCGCCAAAUUCAAUUUUGUCACCAUUUGGCAUAUGAUUAAAAGGUUGUAUGUUUUGGUAGAGUGGGGUCACAUCAUAUUUCAAAAUAAGUCUAAAAGUGUGUUUGACAAUAAUUUUAGGAAGUGUUUUUAAUCUUUCUAAUAUUUAAAAUUUUUUAUCUUUCAAGUAUUAAAAAUAUUAGAAACACUUCUUAUAAUCAUUGUCAAACGCACUUUAAGUAUAGGAUACACAGUUUUUUCCCCAUUAUAGACAAAAUAAAUAAAUAAAUCUAAAUGUCACUCCAUCUCAUUUAACUUAGAUAGUCAAAGUAUGUCUGUGUGUUUUUAUAAAUUUUUUGUGGCCAUUUUUAGCAAGGAUAUAUUCAUGAAAAAAAUUACUGAAUAAAAAAAGUAAUUGAUUUAUGAUUCAAUAUUCAAAUCCAUAGUUGAACUGUAAUGUGACAAAUAUAUAAUUUAUAUAUAUAUAUAUAUAUAAAUUAAAAAAAUAUAUAAAAAUUAAAUUAUGUACAAAUAAUUAAAUAUUUUCCUUAAUAUUAGAAUAGUAUAUCAUAAUCAUCAUAAAAUAUAAAUGUGCUAAUAUUUUUAUUUUAUUAAAUAGUAAUAUUAUAGUAUUUAAUUAUAAAAAUAUUAUAUAUAAAUAUUUAAUACAUUUAUUAUUAAUAACUAACAAUGUACUACUACAUUCAAAUCAUUUGCCUAGAGGCCAUUUAUUCCUGAUGUGAAUCUUUUUUUAGCAGAAAAAUGUGUGAUAUUUGAAGAUGAAAAAGUCGAGAAAAAGUGUGACAUACUAUGUGGGGCACUAAUAGACAACCAUUGAUGUGAGCUGAUAUGCUGUAUCUACACUUUUAUCUUCAAAUAUCACACAUUUUUUGUUUUCAAUGCUAGAGAUUAGAAUUACAAGGUUUUAAUCAUGUAAAUAUUGUUUAUUUUAAGUCCAAAGGACAUGUUCAUAAAAUUUAAAAAACUCAUAUAUAUAAGAUAUCAAUAACUUUUUCCUUUUGUUGGAUGUGGGAUAUUACAAUCAUCUUCUAAGAUGUGUUUCCAUAGGAUUGUAGUACUAAACAAAGAGACAUCCCUCACGAUAUCAAAGAAACUUAGUUAUGAAUUGAUUCUAGUAUCAUUUAUAAUGAUCAAGGAAAAAAGUUUCUUAAAUUAUAUAUUAAUGAACUCCUCUCAACCUUGUAAACAUAUUUUAAGGUUAUUAGAAUCCCUUAAGCCUAAAGUGGAUAUUAUUAAUUUACAUAAUUAAUUAAGAGUGAGUUGCUAUUAGAAAUUGUUUACACAAUUCCAUACUCUAUGCAUUGUUGACGAUUUAUACGUAUUUUUAUGGCAUGUCCAACUUAUUGGUAUUAAUUACCAACGGUCCCGCAUGUUUGAAAAAUAUUGAUAUGAUAGAACCAUCUUUAAAUUAUUAAAUUAUUAGUCAUAAAUAUAUAUUAAUGUACCACCAACCACCUGUGUAGCUUGCUGUGCUAAAUUAUUCUCAUAUCCUUUUCAACAUCAAAUAAGUGGAUAUAUGAGCACCGACAUGCUAUGUGAUUCUAAGCUAUUCCCAUUUCUUUUUCAAUGCAGAAUCUUAUUUAAUGUAAGCUUGAAUUUUAUCUCUUCCACAUGCUAAAUUAUUUAAUGCAAAAUAAGUGGAUAAAAUAUUCAUUUUUUUAAAUUAGCCGAUGAAGGAUCUCAAACCAAUCAAAGUGGAAAUUUUAGAGUCAAUUAUAGUGAAGGACUACAACUGAAAUACUAUUUUGUUUCAAUGCUACUUAAAAAUUGUGUUGUUUUUUUGGCUUAGCAAAAUUGUAGUUUAAAAUAUAUGGAGAAACAAACUUUUAAUUAACAUUUUAUAUUAGAUAUGAUAACGUUUAAUACAAAUGGACAAGAGAAAAUCAACAUCUAUGCAAUUGAUACAACUUUAUUGGUAUGAUUGAAGAUUAAGAGUAUGCCUACUGGUGUAAUUUAAAAAUUGUUUUUUAUUUUUAAAAUAGGAAAUUGUCUUUAAAAAUUCAUAACAUUAUUUAACCAUUGUUUCUUAUUUCCACUCUUCAAGAACAAAGGAAAAUGGAAAAUAAAUUUUAAAAAACCAGUAAAAAUUCUUUUCAUCAAUUUUUAAAAAGGAAAACAUAAAGAAAAACCAUAAAUAGAAAAUAAAAUUAAAUCUAAUAUCUUUCUUUUUCGAUCCUCAUUACCCAAUAUCAAUACCAAAAAUUUUCAAAAUGAUAUUUCUUUGAAUUUCAUGUGUUUUUCUAAAUUUCCUUCAACUUCUCUAAAAUUUUUCAUCAAGUAAAUGAAUUCAAAAUCAUAUUGUAAUUUAUUUAUAUUGAAAAAUUAUUUCAAACUUAAAAACCAAAUUAGUACUAUAAAGUUAUAAAACUCAAUAACAUUAAAAAAUUAUAGACCAAAAUUCAUUUGAAUGACUCGGCUAGUUUAUUUUUUUUGUAUAUAAUCAUAUUUUUGUAAAUUUUUAUACAAGCCAAGUCUAGCACUUUUUAAAAAUAAUUUUAAACUCAAAUUGUGACUCAAUUAAAUUUAUGGAUAAAAAAUAGUUUACUUUAUUAUUUCUUUUCUACUCAUAAUUACAUUUUUAUAGACUUUCUCACCAAAGAAAUGAACUUCAAAUCAUGAGACAAUUUGUAUUAAGUUUAUUAAUAAGUUUAAUAAUUUGUAAAAAUAAUUUUAAAAUAAAAAAAUUGAUGAAAUUAAUUGUAGAUUAAAUCAAAACAUUACAUAAUAUUCCUUUAUGCAUGUACUGUGUAAAACUUCACUCAUUUAUAUAUUAAAAUUUCAAAUUUUAUUUUGUAUAAUUUCAUUUGAAAUAAAAUAUUAUUAAUAACUAGUUUUAAAUUAUUAUUAUUUAUUUUUUACAAAAAAAUCAAUUAUGCUUUCAUAAAGAUGUUAAUAUCCAGAUUUUUAUAGUAUACACAAAAAUAGUAUAUUCUUUUAUAAUAAAAAAAUUAAUUUAUAGCUUUAUUAUAAUAUUACUAUUUGUAUUUUACCAAAACAAUCAUUUUAAAAAAAACUAUUUGCAAUUAAAAAAAUAUUUUCAUUUUUAGUAAAACAUGAAUUAAAUUUAAUUGAUAUUAUAUAAAUUCAAUUUAUAAUAUUUUUAUGAAAUCAAAAUGGAAAAUUAUUUUUAAAGUAAUUUAUUCAAACAAGGUUUUUAAUUUUUUUUUUUUUGAAACAAUUUGUCAAAGAUCCUUAUUUUUGUAAAAUAUUUAAAAACCGUUUUUUGUUACUUGUUUUAAAAAUAAUUUUUGAAAACAAGCAUAACAAAAUGACUGAAGGACCCCAAUCUUCUCAAUUCUCUUAGUUAAAAGAAUAAAUGGGCAAAAGAAAAAAAAAGGGUUGAAAUAAAUGAUAAACUUCUGCUUUGAUUCAAACUCUAAAUUUUACUCUAAUUCAAACUAAUAAUAAAUAUAUAAAUACUAAUAAUUAAAUUAAAGGCAAACAGAUAAAUUAUUUAUUUUCUCUAUUAGAAGUAUCUCCAAUCAAUCAAAGUAAAAGUUUUAGAGUCAAGGUGCACCAAAGUGAAGGACCCUGCCAAAAAGAAGAUUGUAUGGAUUUUUGUAGUUUAUUCAACAUGUUAACACCAAUGGUCCAAUAUGUUUUGAAAAACAUUGAUGUGCACAUUCACCCAAAAAUUAAGAGAUCAUAAUAUGCCUACUUUUUAUUUUUAUUUUAUAAUACGAGGAACAAGUGCCCACUCACCCAAAAAAAACAUGUUUCACAUGCACGAACCGGAUAAUUCUACACUACUGGAAUAUUGAUAUCAUAAUAUGCCUUCUUUUAAAUUUUAUCUAGUAAAGUCGUCAAACCCAUGCUUGGGCUAAUAUCUAGGAAUGCAGCCUUUAUUCAUAAUUUAAAACAUCCAGAUCAACACAACCAAUCAAAUCUAUUGAUAUGUGGAAGAUAAUCUUCUGAAUUCUCUUAGUUCAAAGAGUAAAUUAGAGGAUGAAAGAUCUCCAACUAAUCAAAGUGGAAAUUAUAGAGUGAAGUGGAUCUAUGAAGGACCACAUUUGAAACAUAAAAGGUUUGUCUUUCAGCAUUUUUUCAUCCACUGCUUUAGGAAAAAGGUUGCCAGCACAACCACUAAAAAGAACUUUGUGCGAAUUUUUGUGGCUUGUCCAAUAUCCAUAUCAUAUAUCAUAUGCUAUAUAUAAAAUUACUUUUGAUAAAGUAUGAGAUACCUAUAUAAAUAGAUACCAUAUAAAAUAUUUGUAUAAAUAUCUAUAUGAUAUUUAUAUAGAUAUUUUGGGGACAAAAAAUGUGAUUAUUUUGGGGACUCGGCUUUUUCUAUGUUCCUUUUUCUUUAUAAUUUAUGUAUGUUAUGGUGACUUUUUUUUUCUUUUUUUUCUUUUUUUUUCCUUUCCAUCCAUGGAGCCUAAUUCACGUUAAAAGGUGCUGAAAUAAUACAACCAAACAAUCAUACACAAAAGAAAUGGUUAAGAGAAUGGAUUAAAUUAACAAAAUAGAAACUCCUAAUAACAAAAUAUAUAAAUAUUUUUAAGUUGUGAUGCUCAAACGUAAAUAUUAAAAUUGAUCACUCAAAUUUAAAAUUAUUUUAAUUUUCUUUUAAAAAUUAAAAAAAAAAUUAUAAUUGAAACUUCUCAAGAUUAAAGCUUAUUUUUUGAUAAAAUAAAAUAAAAUAAAAUAAUAAUAAUGUAACCAAUGGGUGGAUCUAUUUAUGUCUUUGCUACCGCAUCACUAGCAACCAAACAUAGUGGGAAAAAAAAAAUGAUGCACUGUAAAUGAUGAAACCGAAAAUCUAGAGGGCUAAUGUAGACCCUCCAUUCUAUCCCCUUAACGCAUGCCCUAUUAGGUGUUCUUUCAAUACUUCACAGUGGUUCCCUGGCGACCCUUUGCGGCUCAUAUAGCCAACCUUUUUUAGCCACCUUGGAGAUUUUGGUUGAGCAAUUUAUUUGGCCCCUCAUUAUGACUCUUAGCAUAAUCAAGUUAGAUCUAGGAUUUUUUAUUUUUUCUUUUCUUUUUAGGAUAACUCCUUUAAGUGAACCUUUAGGAUAGAAUACAUAAGCACCCUUUUUCGAUCACCUUGGCCCAUUUAGACAUUUUUGCCCCAUUUAGGAUCACCCAGGCCCAAUUAGGCACAUUCAACCCAUUUAGGAUCACCAGAACCCAUUUAGACACAUCCGACCCAUUUAGGAUCACCUUGGCCCAUUUAGACACAUUUGAUUCAUUUAGGAUCACUCUGGCCCAUUUAGGCACAUUCGACCCAUUUAGGUUACUUUGGCCCAUUUAGACACAUCCAAACCCAUUUAGGUCACUUAGGCCUAUUUAGGCACAUCUGACCCAUUUAGAAUUACCCUAACCUAUUUAGAUACAUCCAACCUAUUUAGGAUCACCUUAGCCCAUUUAGAGUCACCUAGGCUCAUUUAGGCACAUUCGACACAUUUAGGUCACCUUGACCCAUUUAGACACACCCAGACCCAUUUAAGUCACCCUGACUCAUUUAGACACACCUAUAAUCAUUUCAAUCACAUAGGCCCGUUUAGGCACAUUAAGGCCUAUUUGACCCAUUUAGGCACAUUUGACUCAUUUACACACAUCUAGGCCCAUUUAGGUCACUUAAGCUUGUUAAGGCACAUUUAGUCCAUCUAGACACUUUUGGCCCAUUUAGGAUCACCUAGGCCCAUUUAGACACAUCCGGCCCAAUUAGGAUCACCCUAGCCCAUUUAGACACAUUUGACCCAUUAUAGUACAUUUGGCCCAUUUAUGAUCACUCUAGCACAUUAGGCCCAUUAAGUGUCACUUAGGCCCAUCUAGGCACACCCUAGGUCCAUUUAGGAACAUAUUGUCCCACUUAUGUCACCCGUUGACUUUCUUUUUUUUUUUUUGCAUGGUUUGCAUUGCAUGGCUAAAACUUCUUUGUAUGGCUUGCAUGACACCUUUUUUUUGUUAUUAUUAAUUACUUAUUUAUUUUUAUUUAUUAUCUUGUUAUUUAUUUAUUUAUUAUUUACUUAUUUAUCUAUUAUUAUUUCAUCAUUUUCUAUUUUUUCUAAUUAUUAUUCAUUUGUUCAAUCUAUUUUUAUUUCUGUGUUUUUGUAGGGAACUUUACCAAAGAGAGCCAACGGAGAUGGAAAGCAAGAAUCACCAAAAUGAAAAAGGAAGAUAAAAGUAAGAGAGAGUAAAACUUACCAAGAUGAGAGGGGAUGGUGAGCUGCAUUAUGAAAGUAUGGAGAACAUGUUUUGGGAAGUUUAUCAAAGAGAGAGUCAACAGAGAUGGAAAGCAAGAAUCACCAAAAUGAAAAAGGAAGAUGAAGCAAGAGAGAGCAAAAAUUGCCAAGAGAAUAGGGGAUUGAGGGUUGCAUUAUGAAAGUAUGGAGAACACGUUUUGGUAAGUGAGAAAUUCAGCACGUGGGAAAGGUUUUGGAGUAAGGAAAGGAGGGACUUGGUUAAGUUGGAAUUUGGAGAUUCAAUAUGUUUUUUAGGAGAAAGAGGGGAUAACAUUUUAAGACAAAAAGAAAUUCAAUGUGGUAGGAAGGAAUGUUUAGCAUAUUAAGGAAAAACAUGAGGGGAUUUGAUAAACCACGAAGAUCUCAGCGUGUUUCUCGACCAAAUCAGAAAUAUUUGAACUGAGUCUUGAGCUGCAAAGCUUGGAGAAGAAGCUUGUUUGUGUUAAGAGUCUUUGUUUCAGUUGGAGUCCUAUUAUUCUGCAAGAAGUCCUAUUCUUCUGCUAGUUUGUUAUUUUUGCUUCCAUGAUUUAGUUUCUGUUUGUGCACAAUAGUUGUGGCCGUAAGUUUAGGAAGAGUGGUUAGAAAAUAUAUGUAUUUAAACUCUUUCAAUGAAUAAAAAGAAUAUCAGAAAAUUGUUCCAAACAAUGUGGAAUGUUCUCACCUGAAGAGUACACUUUAUCUUUAUUUCAGGACUUUUGGCUGGGACUUAACAUUGGUAUUAGAGCUCGGUUACAAUGGCAACCAACAAAGAGAGGAUUGAAGCCUUGGAGGCUGGACUCGGUGGUGUUCAAGAUGGAAUGCAAUGACUUGAGGACACUGUCAACAGGCUGUCUGAAAUUUUGCUUUCAACUAGGGAAAGCUCCAACAAUCACAACAAUGGGCGAGAAGGAAUUGUCCGGCCACAUCGAGAAGAGAACGACGACGGCAGACAAAUUUUUUUUUUUCCAAAAUGGCAAAAACGAACAUGUUUGAGAAGUUUAAGAUGAUGCUUGGUGUGAUUGACUUUACAAUUCAGAUUAAGGGAGACUGUUGAAAUCAUAAUCCAACUUAAAUUCAAAUUAGAAUAAGUUUAGGAAUUGGAUAAAUAUUAGGAAUUGUUAUUUAUUUAAGCUUCAUAUGUUAAUUAGGACUUUUAGUCUAAUAGGAAUUAAAGUCCUAUUACAAGUAUGGUUAGCUUAUUAUAAAUAGGCUUAUUAUUAUGUUAAAAAGCAUAAUGCAAUAAAUUUAUUUUUUUAGUAAAAUAUUAUUAAUACUGAAAUGUGUGGGUUCCAACAUAAGUAUGAGAACUUAAACAAAACUAAUCAAGCCUAAAAUAGAACAAAUAGUAAAUUUAACUAAAAAAACUAGAACCCAAACUUGUUUGAUAAAAGGGAAAAGCACUUACAAGGCAAGAUAGGCAUUGGGCACCUAAAAUGUGAAAUGCACUCUUACCACCAGGCACUGAUGGACACUCAAAGAAUAAAUAGUAGAAUUGGAUUCGAACCCAAACCUCCUUUAAAAAAAAAGAGAAUGUAAAGAUGAUUAUGAAAAAUUAGGUGUGGAUUUUUUUUUUCCUAAAUUUUUUUUAUAUAUAGAAAAUAGCUUAUUUUUAGAUUUCAGAUAGUUUGUUUUUGUACUUUUUGUUAAUAUAUAACUUAUUUCUUAAAUUUUUUAUUAAAAAGAAAAAAAUCAAAAUAUUUUACUUUUUCUGAUUACUAAAAUUAAUUUAUGGGCUUUAACACUAUUAAACACUUUUUAGUUUUAAGUUCCGAAUAAAAUUAAGUCAAAAAAAGUAACACCACCUUAGAAUUAAAUUUGGUUGAAAAAAUAAAACUCUUAUAUUUUAACUCCUACCCAUAAGUGACUUUGUGUCGGCAUACAAAGAAGAAAUGUGGGCCUAAUGGGGGAUUUUUGAUAUUUUCCUUUUUUUUUUUUUUUUGUAAUACAAUAUUUGUAAAAAAAAAAUGUAGUUAUAUAAAUAAUUUUAAACAAUGUUGUUCCCUAAGGAGACCUCCUUCGGUACAAAAAAUGCAUGUGGUAUUCUUCCAAUUAUUAAAUUGUAUCUAGCGAAAAGGUCCAACGCAUAUUUGAAAAAAGGAGAAUUCCCAUUUAGAGUAGGCUACCAGUGAUAAUGACCUAAAAGGAUCAUCAUAUUUGCAAAUUCUUAUCAAGUCCUUUGAAAAAUUAAUCAUUUUAGAUACCAUUUUUAUUUUUUUUUGUCCUUUUCUUCUUUUUCUCAUUUAAUUUUACCUUUUUUUAUUGUUUUCCUUUUAUACUUUUGAUUCGACUCAUGGUAGCUUAGCUUUAAAGGCGUAUCAACAAAAUUUAUACCUUGAAUACUAUUACUAAAGUAGCCAAGCUACUAUAGCAUAGUGGUUCUAGGAUCGUUCACUGGGAAGGGUUUUCGCAAACACAAGUGAUAUUCAAAUUAGAAAUAGGUGAUUUUCUUAUGGAUGUUAGCUUUAAAAGAAGAUGUAAAUGUUUUAGAAAGAUUUAAACUAAUCUAAGCUAACAUUAAAGACUAAAAUGAAAGGGUGUAAAAACAAGUUUCUCAAAGAUAGGAUAGCUAUGCUCUGGCUCUUAUGCAAAUUGGAAAUCUCAGGAUAGGCUCCUCGCGUUGGGGUUGCAACUAUGGUGAUGCUUGCUUCCCGAACCGGUAUGGAUUUAGCAAAUCAAGUUUUAAUCCUUUAAAAUGGCAAAACAGAUGGUAGUGAAUUUCAUCAAUGGUUAUUCACCUUAGACUUCCUUUGAAUGGCUCGUAAGAGAUAACUAAUGGUCUAAAGCCAAAAGCUUACCAAAUAUUGGCAACUCAAAGUUAUUCCAGGUGAUAAACUCACCUUUCAAUGGCCAUUGAAAUUGGUUCUAACGGAUUAAUGCAAAACUUGGAAUUGAAAACCUCACCUUCCAAUAGCUCGUAGGAGAUAACUAAUGGAUAGAAAUCCAAAAGCUUAUCAAGUAUUGGCCGUUGGAAGUUGUCAAAAGGAAAUAAAAACCAAACUUUGCAUUAAUGAACCAUUAAUGAAAAACGACUACCUUACCUUCCGGGUGCGAGAAAUUUCCAUGGGAUUGCAUCCAAGUCAUCACAUAACAUCCAUACUUUGAGAAACUAAAAGUUUUAGCCAAUCAUCCUCUGAGGAAAAGCCCUCAGAGGCUGUUUGGCUACUAAGAAAAUAGAAAUGGGGAAGAACAGGAGAAAAGAGAAAAAACAGAGCAAGGCUCUGUAUAUUCUAUAUAUUGAUCGAUAUUUUUUACAAUGGAUGCAAGGGAAUAUAUAUAGAGAAGUUUUUCCAACCUUCCUAGCUAAGAAAUUACAUGAGUGGUGGAUUACAAGGAGAAGAAUGGAAAUUUAUACAAAAAUAUCCAAAAGAAAAGAUCUCGUGUGGAGUCGGCAGAAACAGGGGAAAAUUCGCACCAUGCAAGGGGGUGUGCGAAUUCGGAAGGUGUUGUGCGAAAAUUUCGCACACCCCUGGAGCAGUUGUCUUCCGAAGGCCAUAUCUUCCUCAUUUCAGCUCCAAAUCGUACACAGUUUGAAGCGUUGGAUUCUUGACUUCCUGAGCUUUGAAAUGGUAUAUAGCAUGUAGAAAAUGGACUUCGGGAAGUGCUCCAAAAGUUCCAAAGAAGACUGCAGCUGCUGUCCUCUGUUUUCCUCUUUGCUUCUUUUUGCUUCUCUUUGCUUCUCUUCUUUUGUUGGCUUGCUUUGAUGUAGCUAAAAGCUUGCUUUAACUUGUCCAAGUAGCUCCUCCAUCAUUUGGCAUGCUUGAAUUGAUUCAUAAGCUGAUAAAAACAUGUAAACUUGCCACAAAAUGGUUAAAACCAAUUACUAAGGACCUUAAUGAAUUAAUUGGGUUAAAUGAAUAUGAUUACUACUCAAAGGUGCUUAAAACCAUUAUAAUUAGGUCUACAAAAUAGCACUUUUUGGUAGUAAUCAACUUUUUUACACAUUAUUAUUAGGGAGAAUUAUCUUUUGGGGUUAGAUGGGCUUCCAAAUUAACAAAAGGUCCGUAUAACUCUUCAAAUUGAGUUGAAGGAUAUGAAAUAGUAACAGACAAAUAUACCCUUUAAGAACACAUAUAAAAUAUUUUAUAAAAUUAAGUUAAAUAAUUUUUUUUAAUAAUUUUUUUUUCAAAAAUGCUAAAUUAAAUAAAAAUAGUUUUCAAAAAUAUUAAAUUAAAUAAUUUUUUUUUCAAAAAUAUUAAAUUAAAUUAAAGUAUUUAAAAAAAAUAUUAAAUAAAUUUAUUUUUUAAAAAUAUUAAAUUAAAUAAAUUUAUUUUUACAAAAUAUUAAAUUAAAUAAAUUUAUUUUUACAAAAUAUUAAAUUAAAUAAAAGUAUUUUAAAAAAUAUUAAAUUACAUAAAAGUAUUUUUUUUAAAUAUUAAAUUAAAUAAAAGUAUUUUUCAAAAAUAUUAAUUUUUUUUCUCAAAAUCAACAAAGGGCAUUUUUGGAAAUACUGAAGGAUGAUAUCCUUCAACUCAAUUUCCAUACUUUCAUUAGGUCUUGGACUCAAUUUGAAGAGUUAUAUGGACCUUUUAUUAAUUUGGAGGCCCAUCUACCCCCAAAACAUAAUUCUCCCUUAUUAUUAACUAUUAAUAUUAUUAUUUAUAAUAUUAAUAUUUUGAAUUAUUCAUGUUAUUUAUUAAAAUCAUUCUUAUUAAUAUUAUCUAUUUUUAUGAUUAUUAUUCAUAUUUUUAAAAUAAUAAUUAGAAGAAAAAAUAAAACAAAGAAAAGACAAAAUAGAAAAAAGAUAAAGUAGGGAUAUGUUUAACUUUAAAGUGAAACGUAUAAAGGUAUAUUUGAAUUUUUAUAUUUUGAGAUAUUUUGAAGAACUAUCAAAGUUGAUGACCCUUUAGGAUCAUUAUCAUUCAUAGCCCACCCUAUAUGAUAAUUCUCCCUUUCAAAAAUUGUAAAUGGAAUAACGGGCCAAACAAUAGUAUUAUGGUAUCGAAAACAACUUUUUCGUGUCAUACCUCCAAUGACCACAAGUGAGAUUGUGAUCAAUCAAGACAAUUACAAUAAAAUUUAACAACCGAUUACUUUCAAUUUUUUGAUAAUAUUUAUUUUAUUGAUUAAGAAUUAUAAUUUAAUAAAAAAUGGGGUUGUUAUUCACAACAUCCCUUUUGCUAAACAUAACACUUUUUUGUCAUAUUUUUUUUCACAUAUACCCUUUUAAAUAAAGAACUCUCUCUAACCUUCUCUCAACAUAUUGAACCUAAAUUCUAGUUGGUUAAGGUUGCGAAUCACAUACGAAAUACAACGAAUGAUGAAAUUUAAUCAUCUGAUGAAAAUUUUCAGAUAAGAUUUAUAAUUUUCAUUUUUUAUAAAGAAAUAUAUAUAUUUAUCUAUAUAUAUAUAUAUAUAUAUAUAUUUAUCAAAAAAAAAAAAAAUUGGCAACCUGGGUGGGGCUCCGGUGUCCUAGGAGGCAGCAGCAACAACAACGAUUAUGGUUUGGAGUAGGUAUGGAAGUCGGCGACCAUCGACAACAGUGGUUGGGCUAAAUUUUUUGCUUAUAAUAAUUAUAAAAAUCGAAUUUUUAUUAUUAUUUAUAAUAGUUACUAAAUUACUUUUCGUUUAUAAUAGUUAGAAAAUUCUUCAUGACAUAAAUUUUUGCUUAUAAUAAUUAUAAAAUUCUAAUUCUUUUAUUUGUUUAUAAUAUUUACUAAAUUAUUAAUUUUUUGUAAGAAAACAUUAUAGUAGCCACAUAAAUUAUUAAUUUAAACAAGAUUUGUUUUUGCCAAUUUUCACCAAUUUUACUAAUUUCAAUGUUUUAAUUUCUUUUUUUGAAAAUUUUAACUAAUUGCUUCAUGUUUUAAUUUUUUAAAUGCUUUAACUUUGUCAUGUACAUUCUCAUAUAAUUUGAAUAAUGUUAUUGUCUUCAUGAUAUAAAUAGAAUUUUUUAUCUAUUUUGUAGGAUGAAUAUUUUGUGGAGGAAUUUCCAUCACAAUUGAUAGAUUAUGGCAAACAUUUCACUAUACAUAAAAGAUUCAAAGAUCGAGAAGAGUUUAUUGAAGAGGUUAAACAAAUUGGAGAACAACAAAAUAUAUUUGUGAUUAUUUGUCGUUCCACUAAAGCUGAUGGUUCAGGAAGUGGCAAAGUAUGGAUAGGCUGCGAGAGAUUCGAAGGCCAUAGACCGCAACAAAACAGAAAAACCGAUGUGGUGCCUAGAAAUCGAACUAGGAUGAAGAAGUGUCGUUGUCCCUUUAUGUUGAAGGGUAUUGAACAUGAUGAUGGAUAUUGGACUUUAGUCAUCAUUAAUGGCAACCACAAUCACUACCUUGGAAAGUAUCCUCACGGUCAUUCAUCGGUUGGUAAAUUAAAGGAAGCAGAGUUCAAGAUAGUAGCUACAAUGACCGAAAGUCAUGUUAAGCCACAACUUAUUUUAAAUCACCUCAAACAGGAGAAUCCAAGCAACUUGAGUUGUGGGAAACAUGUCUACAAUGCCAGGCAAAAGCUUAAAGAUUAGAAAAAGAAUGGUCGUUCAGUGAUGCAACAACUACCCAAAUUGCUAAUUGAUCAUGGUUAUAUCACCACUGGUAUAGAGAAGAUGCAGAAACUAACACAGUGAGUGAUAUAUUAUUUGCUCAUCCAAAAUCUAUUCACUUGUUGAAUGUUUAUCCAUAUAUUUUGAUUAUGGAUAGUACUUGCAAGACUAACCGAUACUUGAUGCCCUUAUUUGAAGUUGUUGGGGUUGCGCCAAUAGGGAAAAUUUUUACUGUUGCAUUUGUAUUUCUCAAAAAUGAGAAAGAGGAUAGCUACACAUGGGAACUUGAGCAUUUGAAGCUUUUAAUUGAUUCAGAUGAUUUCCCUAAAGUUAUAGUUACUGACAGGGAAUUGGCUUUAGUCAAUGCAUUGAAAAACAUAUUCCACAAUUCUUAUCAUAUUUUAUGCAGACGUCAUAUCGGGAAAGAUGUGGAAAAAUAUUUUACUAACUUGGUAAAGAAUAAGGACAUUGGAACUUCUUUUUCCCAAGGACGUUGGCAUAAGGUGGUUGAAGCUCAAACCCAACAGGAAUAUGAGGAUCGACUAGGGGAGAUGAAUGAGGCUUAUUCACAUAUGUCCGGUUUGUUGAAAUAUGUGCAUGAGACAUGGCUUGGACCUUUCAAAGAGAGAUUUGUUCGUGCAUGGACGAAUUGUGCAUUACAUAUGGGUCAUCUAACAACUAACAGGUAUUUUAUCUUUUUAAUUUGUAAUGUUUAUUGAUUAAUUUCUAUUGUCAAUAAUAGGGUGCAGGGAGAGUGCACAUUCAGAGUUAAAGAGCUAUUUAGGAUCAUCCAUAGCAAGAUUUGACUUGAUAUGGCUCAAAAUUGACUCAAUGAUAAAUCUGCAGCUUGAGGAAAUUAAAAGAGAGUUGGAAAGGGCUCGAACUGUCUCUCUUCAUAUUAUAGUGUUGCACUUAUUUCGGAGGUUGAAUGGCAAUGUUACCCACAAAGCAAUCCAAUUGCUAGAUGAAGAAUGUUAACGAGCAGAAAAGGUGCGCAGUGAUACCUUAGAUUGCGGGUGUUAUUUGAGGAAAACACAUGGCCUUCCAUGUGCGCAUGAACUUUUUGCACUUAUGCAGGAUGGUAAAAGUAUUGAGUUGUAAGAUAUUCACCCCUUUUGGAAAACACUUGAUAUGGAAGUUGUAAAAGAUAGUGCUCCUGAUUCUGAUGAGGAAAAUAAGUUGUUGCGGUCAUUAUUUGAUAGAAUGAUCCAACAACCUCGUAAUGUCAAGAGAAGAUAUAUUGAAGAGUUGGGAAAAAUUGUUCACCCUGAGUGGACAAAUCUCAAGGAACCACUUGUACGACAAACUAAAGGUCGACCGAAAAAAAUGCCACGAAGCGGGAUCAAUCUGCUUGGGAAUAUGCGGAAAAGAAGUAUCCUGGAAAAUCAUGCAAGAAAAGGUCGUCAUCUGGAUCAUUGCAUGGUCGUCGACAAUCAAGGUCAAUUUCAAGCCAUGUUAGAAAAUUCCCAUUCGUAAAUGCAGUUCCAAAAUUUGUUCUUCCAUUUAUUAAUCAUUACUACAAUGUUAAGGCGGAUGGAAAUUGCGGGUACAGAUCAAUUGCUUAUUUUAUCUAUUCUGAUGAGGAGAAAUGACGGCCCACUGUGAGAAGAGAUUUGUUAAAUGAGAUGAAUGGUUGAUUAGGGUUAUAUGCAAAUAUAUUCGGAGGGGAAGAUCGUGCACAAUCUAGUAUUGUUUCACUUCAACAUUGGGAAGGUGAUGCAAAUGAAUCCAAAUGAAUGGAUGUGACGGAUACGUCAUGGGUCAUUGCCAACACAUAAUGCUGUAUGUGUUUCUUUUUCUGCGUCACAAAAUUUGACAUACUUACCUUUGAACGCAACCAAAGAUGUACAAGGUCUUACGAGAGUCAUUACAAUUGUUUAUUUGGAGUCAGCUCGACACUUCAUAGCGGUAUAAUUCUUUUAUUUAUUCUUAUAUUUACACACACGCAAAUACAUCCUAAUUGUUGAUAUUGUAAUUGUUGUGUUUUUUUAUAGGUAAAUAUGGUUUCAGAUUUUCCAUUGCCAAGAAUUCAUCUCAGUUGGUAUUCGUUUCAUGAUGUAAGUGUAUUCAAUUGGGAUGAGCAAUUUAAGCUGAGGUUAGAGGAGUGGCGUAAACAAUUUGGAACAAUUAUAGUAGAUUAUGUCGACCUUGAUUGAGUUCAUGAUUCAACACAUUGAGAAGGUAUUUAGUUGAUUAUAUUUAUUGACUUUUGAACAUAUGUAGGAUUUAAGUCCUAUUAUGUUUUGACCUUUUUUUAGGCUCUUUGAUUACAUACUUUGUUUUAUGAGUCUUUACUUCGCAUACACAAUAAUUAUUACAUUGUUCAUAUUCUUAAUCAAUCUCUAAUUAUAUGCAAUAUUUUUGUUUGGGUUACAAAAAAAAUCAUAUUGAACACAAUAAAAAAUAUUUUUUUAAAAAAAACCAUUCCAAUUAAAUAUUGUUUAUUUUAAAAUUUUAAUAAUAAUUUUUAUUUUAAAAAAAAUGAGUUAUGAAUUUCACAUUAAAACAUUGAAUAUAAUAAAAUCAUUUUACAUAAUAUACUUUUGGUGAAAAAAAUCAUUUUAUAAUUUAUUAUUUAAAGAAAUUAUUUUGUUUUAAAAUAUAAGAAGAAUAUGAAAAACAAUUGAGUGUGAAAAAAUAAAAGAAAUGAAAAGAAAAAAAAAACAAAGUUUAUGUGGGGUGGGGGGUUGGGUGGGUAGAGAUGAAAAGGAAGAUAAAAAUAAAAAUAAAUAAAAAAAAGAAUGCUAAAAUGUGGGGUGGAAAAAUAAAUAAAUAAAAGGGUGCAAUUGGAACGUGAGGUUGGGAAGGAGAGAGGGGGAAAGAAUAAGGGAGGGUAGUUUAGGAAUGUAAAAUGUUGUAUUAGUAAAAAUGGUGUUGUGAUUAGCAAUUGGGAUAUAACCAUAAAAAUAAAAAUGGAAAAUCAUCUAUAAAUAAAUCAAAACAAAAUAUAAAAAGAAAAUAAUAUUUUCAUGGUUGAUUAAUUCCAUGAGUUGGAUGAUAAAAGCAUUAAUAUCGAGUUGGAGGCAAAACCAAUAACCAUCAGAAAAUAUUCUUCCAUUGCUACCACACAAUGCUGUAGAAUUUUCCUAAGAGAGGUCAGUGGAAAAGAGACAUGCAAGACGUGCAAGAAUUUUCCUAGGAACUUCUUCUAUUGCUUCCACACAGUGGAAAUGAGACUUUGACUCACCAGUCGUUGGGCCUCAAGUCUGCCACAACCUGUUUUGGAUGGCCAUAAGAUUAUUGAUGGGCUGCUUAAACGUUGCUUUGAGUUAUGGUUAACAUGAAAAUAUCAACCAGAAGGUGGUCUGCUAAUCUUGUUUUCUUGCUUAUUUAUUCAGGUUUUCACUGGCAAUUUGUUAAUGCAUUUACAAAUACAAUCUUACAAGGUCAAUCGUUCACAAACUCUCUGAUAAGGGAGAAUAAUUUGAUUCUCCAUAAGAUUUGCUAUAUCCCAAUUCGGUUCCAUAAAAUCCGAAAGUAUAGUUGUAAAUAUAUGUAGAUAUGUUUUCAAUAUUUGUAUUUCAAACCUUUCCUAUUUUAUAGGAUCACAUUGUUGUUAUUUAUUCUAUAUAUAUUUGAUGUUAUCUCCUGCACACGACAAGGAGGAUUUCAGUCAUUAUACAUUGUUUCUUAAACAUCUUUAUGGUAUUAGAGCAAAGUUUUUUUUCUUUACCAUGGCUGAUUUGACUUCUUUAUCUCCUUCUCUUCCGCUUAACACAGUGGUGCAUAUGCUCACCAUUAAACUGACUUCCUCAAAUUACUUAUUGUGGAAAAAUCAAUUUGUUCCACUAUUAGCCAGUCAAGAUUUGUUUGGCUAUUUGGAUGGUAGCAUCGGGGCUCCCUCCGCCACAAUUCUUACCGCUGAUGGCACCACCAAGUCAAAUCCAACGUACGCUUCUUGGCUACAUACUGAUCUGACGUUUCUUAGUUUACUCUAUUCUUCUCUUACCGAGGAGUCUAUGAGUGAAGUAUUGGGUUUACGUCAUUCUCAUGAGGCUUGCUGCGCUCUUGAAGUCUCAUUCUUACAUCGGUCGAAGACUUGUGAAUUGCAACUCAAGGAUGAACUCCAACUGAUGCAACGCGGCUCUCAGUCCAUUGUCGAGUUUUCCCAUACCUUCAAAGGUCUUUGUGAUCAAUUGGCUGUGAUCGGUCGUCCCAUUGACGACACAGAUAAAGUUCACUGGUAUUUGCGAGCAUUAGGGCCCGACUACAAGAUCUUCUCCACCACCAUGAUGUCACAGCUUCCGCUACCCUCAUUUACCGAGAUUGUUUCAAAAACUUUGAGUCAUGAGAUUUUUGAAAGGUUGGUUUCCCACUCGUCUUCUAACUCUACUUAUUAUGUGCAGCAAACUUCCAAAUCUGUAGGGGCUAAGAAAUGGAAGAAUGGGCCUCCCCCUUCAUCUAGAUCUUUUGCACAUUCGAAGUCAUCAUCCACCGUUCACUGCCAGUUGUGUGACAAUGAUGGACACCGAGCCAAACGUUGCUGGAGCUUCUUAAAACUCAAGAAGAAGCAGUCAGCUAAUAUUGCUGAAGUUUUUUCAACCUACUCGAUUCAAGACCUUAAUGACUCUGAAUGGUUUCUUGAUUCUGGUGCAACGUCCCAUAUGAUAAGUGACACUGAGGUUGUGGAUCAACCAGCUCUCUACUCUAGUAAUGAACAUGUCAUGGUUGGAAAUGGUCAGUCUUUAGCAAUUUCUCAUACUAGUUCCAUUUCAUCUAUUAUUCCGUCUAGUUCUCUUCUUUUAUCAAAUGUCUUAGUUGUUCCUAGCAUUAAGAAAAAUCUUAUUUUGAUUAGUCAACUUACUACAGACAAUAAUUGUCUUGUUACCUUCUCUUCCUCUGGUUUUAUCAUAUAGGAUCAGGUCACAAGAAUCGUACUGGGAGUCGAAAGAUGUGAAAAUGGUUUCUAUGUGUUGGAUCGUUGUCAUCAUGCCCUUAUGUCCACCACUUCUCCUUCACCGCGAGCCUCUGUUCGUUUAUGGCAUGCUCGCCUUGGUCAUCCCAAUUAUCGUACUGUCUCUUCUCUUUCUAGAUUAGGAUAUAUUUCUUGUAGUAAUAAAUUGGUGAUCAUUGAUUCUGAAAUUUGUGUUGGUUGUAGACUUAGCAAAAGCCAUUGUUUACCUUUUUCUCUAAAUGAUGAACGUUGUGCCAUGCCUUUUGAUCGCUUACACUAUGAUUUAUGGGGUCUGUCACCAGUUCUCUCUUUUACUGGAUAUAGAUACUAUGUGGUAUUCAUUGAUGAUUGUACUAGAUUUAGUUGGAUAUUCCCUUUAAAACAAAAAUCUGAUUAUUUUGAUACCUUCAUCCAUUUACAACGUUAUAUUGAGACUCAAUUUUCAUCCAAAAUAAAAUCCUUUCAAUGUGAUGGUGGAAUCGAAUUUACAAAUAAUAAAUUUCGAUCUCACUUGCAAUCUUGUGGCAUUGUUCUCCGUUUGGCAUGCCCCUACACUCCUAGUCAAAACGGCAUUACCAAACGUAAGCAUCACUAUGUCACAUAAAUGGGUCUUACCCUUAUGUUCCAUGCACGUGUGCCGCUCUCUUUGUGAGUUGAGGCCUUCCCAACUGCUGUCUUUCUCAUUAAUCGACUCCCGUCACCAUUACUUGAUGGCAAAACUCCUUAUGAGCUCUUGUUUAGUAAGCAACCAGAUUACUCUAUGCUUCGGACUUUUGGGUGUGUUUGCUUCCCUUAUUUGAAAGAUUACUCACCAAAUAAAUUGUCUCCAAAAUCUACUUCUUGUAUCUUUUUAGGUUACAGUACACUUCAUAAAGGAUUUUGAUGCCUUGAUCAAACGACACAUCGUGUCUAUGUUUCUCGACAUGUGCAGGCUUGUGAAAAUACUUUUCCUUAUCAUGGUGAUUCUAUACAAAAUUUACAAACCAACAUUGACUAUACCCAUUUUUCUGAAUGUUCAGACUAUGUGUCUAGUUUUUCUCAUUCAUUUUUUAGUUCACCAUGUUUGCCUUGCAGUGAUUCUCCACACCUGUCCUCAUAUCCUCCCCCUGAUCUGCAAGGUCCUAUUUCUGUGGAACCCCUCUCGGAUUCUACAGCUUUAGACUCAACUUUCCCACUACCAGUGUCUUCCAUUCCUCGUGUGACCACUUCCAGCCACCCGAUGAUUACCAAUGGAAAAGACGGUAUAUUCAAACCACGAUUAUAUCAUGCUAUGAAUGUUUUGUCUUCUUUUCAAACUUUUCAAGCACUUCUUGCUCUCAAAGAACCUCGGGGUUUUAAGUCUGCUACAAAACACCCUGAAUGGCUCUUGGCUAUGGAUGAUGAGAUUCAAGAUUUGAAGACAAAUGAUACAUGGGUUCUUGUACCUCGUCCUAACAAUCACAAUGUAGUAGGCUGUCGCUGGAUUUUUGAAACCAAACUUCGAUCAGAUGGGUCCAUUGAGCGUCACAAGGCACGUCUCGUGGCUCAAGGAUUUUCUCAGAUUCAUAGUCUUGAAUUUGGUGACACAUUUAUUCCUGUAGUGCGCCCUGCUAUAGUUAGAAUUAUUUUGUCAUUGGCUGUUACUUCUGGAUGGCGUUUACAUCAGCUAGAUGUAAAAAAUGCCUUUCUACAUGGUUUUCUCAAUGAAGAGGUGUAUAUGGAACAACCGCCUGGUUACAUAGAUCCACAGUUCCCUCAGCAUGUUUGUCGCCUAAAGAGGGCUCUUUAUGGGUUGAAACAAGCCCCUCGAGCUUGGUUUCAUCAUUUUAGCUCUUUUUUGCUCAAACUUGGAUUUCUUUCCGGUCAGGUUGAUUCUUCAUUAUUUGUCUAUCACUCCUCAGUUGGAACUGUUUAUUUACUUCUUUAUGUUGAUGACAUGGUCAUGACUAGAAGUAAUUCUUCUAUGGUUCAAACCCUCAUUACUUGACUUUCCAAGGAAUUCUCCAUAGGGAUUUGGGUGAUCUUCAUUAUUUCCUCAACGUUGAAGUGCAAGCUAAUGAGAAGGGUUUGUUUUUCACAACAUGCUUUUUUCUGCGUAUACAUUUGUAAUCAUGCAGUUAUUAAAUGAAUUGUUAUAAUAAUGAAUCUAGUGGCUAUAUGUCCCCAGAGUAUGUUUUGUGAGGUCUCUUUUCAACUAAAUCUAAUGUUUUUAGCUUCGGGGUCUUGUUACUAGAGAUUCUAAGUGGCAAGAAGAUUACCAAAUUUUAUCAUAGUGACUCACUCAAUCUUCUUGGAUAUGUAAGUAACACAAUUUUCCUCUUAUGUACCUAAAGUUAUCAUGUUUACUACUAUAUUUCAAGCUUGAAGUUAGAUCCUUGAAUGCAAUUGACCAAAUUAGGACUAUAUAUCUUUCUUUUUUUGGGGAAUUGUUCAUCAAAGUAUAAUUUUUUUUCCUUUAGGCACGAGACCUGUGGAAAAACAACAGAGGACAAGAGUUGAUUGAUCCAGUACUAAAUGAGAUAUCUUGAAGACAUAUUCUGUUAAGGUACAUCAAUGUAGCCCUUCUUUGUGUUCAAGAAAGUACAAAUGAUAGGCCCACCAUGUCCGAUGUUGUCUCCAUGCUUGGCAAGGAAAAUGUACUUUUAUCUUCUCCAAAUGAGCUGGCCUUCUCAAAUCUAUCGAGUAUGAAACGACAUGCAUCUCAAGAUAGGCUUGAAAUUUGUUCCUUAAAUGAUGUAACACUUUCAAGCGUGGGAGCAUGAUAAGUGUUCUAAAUUUCAGAUUGCAUAUGCUUAAAUGUCUUCAGCAUAUUGUCUAGUAUUAUAUCGGCCAUCAAGUUGAUUGUUGAUGUACUGAACGUGUGAACUUUUGUAUGUAUUUUUCUUUCAAUGUAAUUCAAUAAUGUGCUUAAUUUUACUCAAUCCUCAAGGAUUCAAACCUGUAUCUCAUCUUCCCAUCUGUAAUUGCUACUGAAUUUGCUUUUAUGCAUUUCCAAUCCAGAGUGUACAGUCGUUAGAGCUCAUUGCAAAUAUUCAACUAGUACUAGGAAAGAUGAGCUUUUGCGCAUGCUACAGCUAAGCAUAAGUACUAAUUAACAUAUAGGCAAAAGGGAAAGUGAGGAAGGAAAGCAGCUAUAGAUUUCUUUGCCUUUUAAGCUGUGAUAUCAUCUAACAUUUUUUUAAGGGAAGAAAUAUUAUAAUUGAAGGUUUACGUUGAGUACUCGUAAAACCUUCUUUUCUUAUUGGACAUGGUUUCAAUAAAAUCCAUUUGGUUGUCAAGAAAUCUGAGGGAGUUGAGGAUGUGGAUGAGGAAUUUGAAGUCUACCCUCGUCCCUAUAGCUUAAAAUGAAAAGGCAUAGUUACAAACUAAGCUUACAUCGUGGCAGAAACGUUUAUAUUCCUUAGUGGGGCUUGUAGUAGGAGAUCGACCCAGAAGCCAACCAGAAAAGACAUGCAUCUAUCGUUCAAAUGAUUUUCUAAACUUAUUAAAUUGAUUUUCAAGAACUUGAUAAAUACCUCAUUUCUAUAAUAAGGUGAUUUCAAACGUUAGAAAACAGUGAAGGAAAAUGUGAAAUCACUCUACCACCAAGCAUAGAUGGACACUCAAGAAUAAAUAGUAGAGUUGGAUUUUAACACAAACCUCUUUUAAAGAAGAGAAUGUAAAGAUGAUUAUGAAAAAUUAGGUGUUGUUUGUUUUUAAAAAAUUUUUUAUAGAAAAAAUAUUUUUGUUUUAGAUUUCAAAUAGUUUGUUAUUGUACAUUUUGUUAAUAUAUUACUUAUUUCUUAAAUUUUUUAUUAUAAAAAAAGAUAUUUGACUUUUUCUGGAUGCUAAAAGUAAUUUAUAGGUUUUUUUUACUUCUUAAAUAUUUAAUAAAAAUAAAAUAUUUUAAAAAAUAACUUAAUAGUUAACAUUAUUAAAUACUAUUUAGUUUUAAAUUCAAAUUAAAUUAAGGAAAAAAAAAGUAAAACCACCUUAAUAUUAAAUUUGGUUGAAAAAAUAAAUCUCUUAUGUUUUUCCUCCACCCAUAAGUGACUUUGUGCUAGCGUACAAAGAAGUAAUGUGGGCCUAAUGGGGGAUUUUUGAUAUUUUCCUUUUUUUUUAAUAAGAUAUUUGUAAAAAAGUUGUAGUUAUAUAAAUGAUUUUAAACAAUGUUGUAUCCUAAGGGGACCUCCUUCCAUACAAAAAAUGCAUGUGGUAUUCUUCAAAUUAUUAAAUUGUAUCUAGCGAAAAGGUCGAAUGUGAAUUUGAAAAAAAGGAGAAUUCCCAUUUAGGGUGAGCUAACACUGAUAAUGACCCAAAAGGGUCACCAUGUUUACAAAUUCCUAUCAAGACCUUUGAAAAGUUGAUAAUUUCAUAAUUCUAAUUUUACCUUUUUUUUUCUUUUUUUUUUUUUCAUUUUUCCUAUUAUUCUCAUUUAAUUUUACCUUUUUUAUUGUUUUUCUUUUAUACUUCUUUACACAUUAUUAUUAUUAAUGUUAAUAUUAUUAUUUAUAAUAUUAAUAUUUUGAAUUAUUCAUGUUAUUUAUUAAUAUCAUUCUUACUAAUAUUAUUUAUUUUUAUGAUUAUUAUUCAUAUUUUAAAAAUAAUAAUUAAAAAAAUAAAAUAAAAUAAAGAAAAGACAAAAUAGGGAAAAGGCAAAGUAAGGAUAUGUUUGACUUUAAAAUAAAGGACCUAAGGGUAUGUUUGAGUUUUUAUAUUUUGAAGCACAUGAAAGAUUAUCAAGUUGAUGACUCAUUAUCAAUAGAGCCCACCAUCUUUGGUGAUUCUCCUUUUGAAAAAUGAUAAAUGAACAAACAGGUCAAACAUUAGUAGUAUGGAGCCCACCAUCUUUGCUAAUUCUCCGUUUGAAAAAUGGUAAAUGAACAAACGGGUCAAACAUUAAUACCGAGAACAACUCUUCCGUGUCAUACCUCUCCAAUUAUAAUAAAGUAGCAUCCGGUCAAUUUCAAUUUUUUGACCAUAUUUAUUUUAUUGAAUUAGAAUUAUAAUUUAAUAAAAAUGAUAAGAAUUAUAACAACCAAUUCUAUUAUUUAAAGAUAAAUUGUCUAAAUAAGAUUAAAAAUUAAAAAUUAAUCCAUCUAACAACAAAUUUAAAAUGGAUUUAUAUAUCAUAAAAUAUCAUGACCGAAGAAACCAAUAACCAUAAAAAUAAAAGUAGAAAAAUCAUCUAUAAACAAAUCAAAGAAAAAAAAAGAAAACAAAAUUUUUAUGUUUGAUUAACUCUGAGUUGGAUAUCUUCCACGACAGCUGCAAUGAUGAAUGUAAAGAGAAAGAAUGGAAGAAGAGAGACAAAAUGAAGUAUCAAGGAAAGUGAGGGCCGGUUAUAUAUAUAUAUAUAUAUAUUUUCAAUUUUAAGAUGCAUGGUGAAGAUCUCAUCUUGCACAUCCAUUGGCGCAAGAUAUUCAUCAAUUGCUACACAGUGCUGUAGAAUUUUCCUAAGGGAGGCCAGUGUAAAGGAGACCUGCAAGAUGUUCUUCUAUUGCUACCACACAGUGGAGUAGAAUUGAUAUUCUUCGAUUGCUACCACACAGUGGUGUAGAAUUUUCCUAGAAGAAAUAUUGAAAAGGAGGUCAGUGGAAAGGAGAUUUCGACUCAUCAGUCGCUGGGCCACAGGUCUGCCACUGCCUGUUUUGGAUGGCCAUAAGAUUAUUGAUGGGCUGCUUAAACGCUGCUUAUGAGUUAUGGGUAACAUGAAAAUUUCAACAAGAAGGUGGUCUGCUAAUCUCGUUUUCUUGAUUAUUUCUUCAGGUUUUCACUGGAAAUUUGUUGAUGCCUUUACAGAUACAAUCUUACAAGGUCAAUCACUCACAACCUCUCAGACCAUUAUAUCUGCUGCUGGUAACUUUGAAUUAGGAUUCUUUUCUCCUGGAAAGUCCACAAAAUAUUAUGUGGGGAUAUGGUACAAGAAAUUCUCAGAGCAAACCAUUGUGUGGGUAGCUAACCGAGAUUAUUCAUUCAUAAAUCCAUCCGUGGUUCUUACUGUCAGCACAGAUGGCAACCUCGAGAUUUUGGAGGGGAAGAUUUCGUACAAGGUGACAAGCAUAUCAUCAAACAGCAACACUAGUGCCACCCUGUUGGAUUCUGGAAAUCUUGUUUUGAGAAAUAAGAGUCAGAUGUCUUAUGGGAGAGCUUUGACUAUCCAUCGGACACGCUCCUGCCCGGAAUGAAACUUGGAUAUGACAAAAGGGCUGGAAAAACAUGGUCAUUGGUGUCAUGGAAGAGCAGAGAAGAUCCCAGUCCAGGAGCUUUCUCCAUAGAACACGACGCGAAUGAAAGUAGCCAGAUUUUUAACCUGCAAGGACCCAAAAUGUAUUGGACUAGUGGGGUGUGGGAUGGGCAGAUUUUCAGCCAGGUUCCUGAGAUGCGUUUCAUCUACAUGUACAAGUACAAUACAUCCUUUAAUGAGAAUGAAAGCUAUUUUUCUUACUCUCUUCAUAAUCCCUCCAUUCUGAGCAGAGUGGUGCUAGAUGUGUCAGGCCAGGUUAGGCGUCUGAAUUGUCAUGAAGGCACACAUGAAUGGGAUUUAUAUUGGCUUCAACCAAAAACACAGUGUGAGGUUUAUGCUUACUGUGGGCCUUUCGGAACCUGCACUCGGGAUUCUGUUGAAUUUUGUGAAUGCUUGCCAGGUUUUGAACCUCGCUUCCCUGAAGACUGGAAUCUGCAAGACAGAUCUGGAGGGUGUGUGAGGAAAGCAGAUUUGCAGUGUGUCAAUGAAAGCCAUGCUAAUGGGGAGCGAGACCAGUUUCGUUUGGUGUCUAACGUGAGACUGCCCAAGUAUCCAGUAACAAUACAAGCAAGGAGUGCUAUGGAGUGCGAAUCAAUUUGCCUGAAUAGCUGCCCUUGCUCCGCUUAUGCUUAUGAGGGAGAGGAGUGUAGAAUAUGGGGUGGAGAUCUUGUAAACGUGGAGCAGCUACCAGAUGGUGACAGUAAUGGUAGAAGUUUCUAUAUCAAACUUGCUGCCUCUGAGCUAAAUAAGAGAGGUAAGAAAACAGAGUCAUAGUUGUUAUUGUAGGAGGACAUAAAGCAUAUGGGUCUUGUUUUAUUUUCAAUAUAAAAUGGCCAUCGAUUCAACUAAAUUUAAUAUGAUAUAUUUCGUUCUACAGUUUCAAGCAGCGAGUGGAAGGUAUGGCUAAUUGUUACACUGGCCAUAUCUUUAACUUCAGCCUUUGUCAUUUAUGGGAUAUGGGGAAGGUUCCGAAGAAAAGGUCAGUAUUUCUCAUGGACAUACAGAUGGCCAAGCAAUUCAACAAUUUUUAGUUUCCAUCUACAAAUACAAAACCAGUUCUUUUCUGAAAUGAGUUCAUUACCACUGUUAUUAAAUAAUUAAGGUAACAUUAGGAUUUCAUGUUCUGAUUACAUGUGAGUGUGUAUGUGGAAUCCAAUGUGAGAAAUAAUUUAUUCCCAUGCCAGAAUUCCUACAUUCUUAUGAUAUUUAAUGUCUGUUUGUUAUUUACCAAGCAGGGGAAGAUUUGUUACUAUUUGAUUUCGGUAACAGCUCAGAAGAUACCAGCUGCUAUGAGCUUGGCGAGACAAAUAGACUUUGGAGGGGCGAGAAGAAGGAAGUUGAUUUGCCCAUGUUCAGUUUUGCGAGUGUAUCUGCUUCUACAAAUAACUUCUGUAAUGAAAAUAAACUAGGAGAGGGCGGUUUUGGAUCUGUUUACAAGGUGAGAUUACAACCCCUGACAAUAAUGUUCUACAAUCUAUCUUGGAAUGUAAAGGCCCACUUGAUAUAUACCAAAUUUCUUUUACUUGGUGUAAUUGUACUCAGUUGAAAUUCCCAUGACAGGGAAAGUCACAAAGAAGAUAUGAAGUAGCUGUGAAAAGGCUCUCAAAAAGAUCUAAACAGGGAUGGGAGGAGUUAAAAAAUGAAGCCAUGCUUAUAGCCAAGCUGCAACACAAGAAUCUUGUGAAAGUUUUGGGAUACUGCAUCGAGCGGGAUGAGAAGAUAUUGAUUUACGAGUAUAUGUCCAACAAAAGCUUGGAUUUCUUCCUCUUUGGUUUGUAACUUCCACAUACAUAUACUUCCGACUACUGUAUAUUCAAUGAGAAAACUUUACACAUUCAUCAUUCUUCACCACUUAUUUGCUAACAUCUAUUUAUUUGGUGUAAAAUGGAGAUAGAUCCUACAAAACAUGGGAUUCUGAAUUGGAAGACAUGGGUUCACAUCAUUGAAGGGGUUGCUCAGGGACUUCUUUAUCUGCAUCAGUACUCCAGAAUGAGGAUUAUUCAUCGAGAUUUGAAGGCUAGCAACAUUCUUCUAGAUAAGGAUAUGAAUCCUAAAAUAUCAGAUUUUGGAAUGGCAAGAAUAUUUGGAGGCAACGAACCAAAAGCAACAAAUCAUAUAGUUGGGACUUAGUAAGUGAAACCUGACAAAUUAUAAAAUAUGUGAAUGUUCAUACAACAUUUGAAAUCAUGCAGCUACUGAAUGAUUUUUCUCAUUAAUAAUCAAAUCCAGUGGCUAUAUGUCUCCUGAGUAUGCUUUGGAAGGUCUUUUCUCCACUAAAUCUGAUGUCUUUAGCUUUGGGGUCUUGUUAAUGGAGAUUUUGAGUGGCAAGAAGAAUACUGGAUUUUACCAAACCGACUCGCUCAAUCUUCUUGGAUAUGUGAGUAACACAAUAUUUAUUCACUUACAUAACUAUUUAUGAUGUUUUGAUAUGCUAAUUCCUAGUUUUCAAUUCCCUUGUCAUAUUACCUAUCCGGUUGUCUUGGGAUACUGGUAAAUUUUCACAUUUAUGUCUUCAACUCAGUUUCAAGGCUUAUUUUAUAUUGUUGGCUGAUAUAAAAAGGACUUUAUUAUCUUUUACUUUUUAGGAAUUUGCAUCAAUGGAUAAUUUUCUUCAUUUAGGCAUGGGAUCUGUGGAAAGACAGCAGGGGGCAGGAGUUGAUGGAUCCAGGGUUGGAAGAGACUUCGCCAACACACAUUUUGUUGAGGUACAUCAAUGUAGGCCUUCUUUGUGUUCAAGAAAGUGCAGAUGACAGGCCUACCAUGUCUGAUGUUGUCUCAAUGCUUGGCAAUGAAAGUGUACGUUUACCUUCUCCAAAACAACCGGCAUUUUCAAAUCUGAGAAGUGGGGUGGAACCACAUAUAUCCCAAAACAGGCCUGGAAUUUAUUCCUUAAAUGGUGUGACACUUUCAGUUAUGGAAGCACGAUAAUGGUUCAGAACUUAAUAAAUAAUAUGCUUAAAUUUCAGCAUAUUGUCUUGUAUUGUUCUGGGUGAAUUCAUAGCUCAUAUACUAAAAUGGACAAGUGACCUUAUGUGUGAAUUUUUCUUCCAAAACAGUUUAAUAAUCAUCUUGUACUCAAUCCCUAUGGAUUCAGACUUGUGUCUCAUCUUUCAAUCUGGAAUUGCUACUAAAUUUGACUUUAUCCGGUCAAAUUUGGAUUUAAUUUGAAAAUGAUCUGUUCCAUUGUUGAUCCAAAGAGUAAAAUACAACUUUUUUCAUUGCUUAGUAGCUAAGAAAAGGUGCCACUGGGGCCAAUCCAACUAUAGAGAAUCAACCACCCACCUUCCACUUCCUCUCUUAUGGAUGUUUCUGAAUGCCCUGGCAUAUGUAUAUCAUUUCCAUAUAAACCACCAAUUUGGUCUAGGAUCAGUUUCAUCGAGUAUUUCAGGAGACAACAUAAAACAAGUCAAAAAGUAGAUAAUUACGAACUAAUUGGCCAUCCAGCACAGAAAAUCCAUCUCCCAAUGGGGCCUUAAAGCACUUGAAUUUACUGUUCUUUCCAUCAUUAUUUUCAUUCUGGGCAUGGCCUAGAUUGAAGAAAGGUCCGAUACAAAUUGGAAAAGUCAUAGAAGGAAAUAUAUCUAGGAGGGAAUCCUAACAAAAGGUCUUUCAAAAUUGCUACACCUUGCUUUGAAUGGUACCUGGUAUCUUCAUUGAAUGAGUGUUUUUCCUAUGUCCCACCAUUAAAAUGAAUGGGAGUCUCCAAAUUACAUAGAUUUUUUUUUAUAAUGUAUUAUUUUAUAAAUUUCAUAGAAUUAUCAAUUUAGUAUUUUAGCCCCAAAGUCUGUAAAAAACAUGAUUUGCUUAAGGUUAUCAUAUUAUCAUGCAUUAAUUUAUUUAAAUUCUACUAUUUUUUCCUUAAUUAAAAAGUAAAUUUUUAAUUUUUUUUAAAAAAGGUCACUUUUCUCUCUUUUUUCUUUGAAGUCUCUAACUCUAUAACACUCGAACUCAUUUUCUCAUACAAAAUAAAAUUAAUCAAAUUCAAAUUUGAAACAUUGAAAAUUAAUCAAUAACAUAAAAAUCAAUUGAAAAAUGAAUUUAUGUAAUCAAAAACCUUAAUUACUAUCAAAUUACUAACUUUCUAACUAUUUACAUGAUUAAUCAUUAUAAGAUUUUUAUUAUGACAAUAGAUUUUGGUAUUGAUGAUCUAGAACCCUGAUCUGUAAACACACAAGUCCCUGUCAUCAAACCCUGAUCUAGAACAGUAUUUGACAUCAUGGAAAUGCACUGAUGAUUCAUCCACUAGAAACUUCACUUGGAGAUUAGAUAUUCCCAGGCUGCCUCAACUGGCUGUUGGCAUGGGAUCAGUCAAAAAGUACCGCACAGGGCCAUGGAAUGGAGUUUGAUUUAAUGGUGUACCAGUGUUUCCCAAUGAGGAGGUCUAUUUACCAUUAAUGAUUUUUAAUGAGGAGAAUGUAUAUAACUUGUCUCAGGCUGGCAGCUACUCUGCUACUCUGAGAGUCACCAUCAAUCAUUUAGGCUUGCUGCAAUGGAAUACAUUGAAUGAAAGCAAUGACGAGUGGACUACUAUGUACACAGUACCAUAUGACCCAUGUGACAACUAUGGACAGUGUCGUGCUAAUGGCAUUUGCAGGCUUUCCAGCAUGCCAGUCUGUGAGAGUUUGAAGGGGUUCACCCCCAACUCAAAAGGAGAAUGGGAAAUGCUUGAUUGGUCUAGUGAAUGCGAAAGGGCAGGGUCCUUGGAUUGCAAGAGCAAAGAUGACCUUAUGAAGGUCUUAGGGGUGAAAUUGACUGACUUGUUGGAGUUUCGGUUGAACAAGAGUAUGAGCCUCAAGGAAUGUGAGGCAGAGUGCUUGAAGAACUGCUCCUGUGUGGCGUAUGCGAAUUCAAACAUUAAAGGUGGAAGCAGUGGUUGUUUGACCUGGUAUGGAGAUCUGAUUGAUAUUAGAGGGUUCACAGAUGGGAAAAGUGGGCAAGACCUUUAUACCAGAUGUCCAGCUGGGGAACUAGGUAAGAGUAUUUGACACUCUUUUCACUACCAAGCUCUUUUAUUGUUCAUCCAUGAAGGUUUAACAAGCAUUGCAAUCUGGAUUGCAUGGUUGCUUAUUUUCUCUAGGUGAGUUAGGAUCUUUUUCAUUUUUGGGAUAUGAAAGAAAGUUAGGAUUGUUUGUCAUAUAUCAUAGUGGGACAUUUUGACAUGGAAUAGCUAGUAUCCUCAGUAAUGGUUUUUAUCUUUUAACUAAAGCCACAAAAACAAUUGAUGGCCAACUCUCUCUGCAGUAAGGUGCAGACAAGACUGAAGCGAGGAUUUGAUAACAAAAGUUUUUAGCAAAAUGAUUAAAUUUCUUCCCAUCUCCUGUUUCAGGGUCAAUCCAUGGUUCGCAUAAGAAGAAAAAACUGGUUGUUGUCCUAGUUGCAUUGACCAUUUCUGGAAUGCUAAUCUUGGGCUUGGUGUUCUGGUGCAUAAAAAGGAAAAAAAUUGAGGUAAUCCUAAUUAUUGGUCCAUUCAGUGUUUCAACUUUCAUCAUUGAAAAUCUAUAUCAUACAACUGGAUCCUGAGUACAGUAAUGAAGUAGGCACUAUCUCAUCAAUAGGCCUCGAAAGUGAGACGGAAGAUUUGGAGUUACCUUUAUUUGAUUUGGCUACCAUUAAUACUGCUACUAACAACUUCUGUGUCAUAAAUAGAAUUGGCACAGGCUGCUUUGGUCCUGUUUUCAAGGUAACAUUUGAUUGUAAGAAAAAGUGUGUUUCCUAUUAGACAGUAUGCAGGGCAGUUUGUCAAUAGGAUAAGAAGUAGCAGUGAAGAGGUUGUCAAAGAAUUCAGGACAGGGUCUUCAAGAGUUUAAGAAUGAGAUUUUUUUAAUUGCCAAACUCCAACACAAGAAUCUAGUGAAGCUUUUAGGCUGCUGCAUUCAGGGACGAGAAAGGAUAUUACUCUAUGAAUAUAUGCCCAACAAGAGUUUGGAUUAUUUUAGUUCCAUUUGAAAUUCUCAACCCUUUAGAUCUCUUUGGACUGGUUUGGGUACAUGAUCAUCCAUACCAUGCUCAUGCAUCUAUAGAGUUCAAAUAGUUAUAAUCGCAAAAUUUACAAGGGUUGAAAUGAUGUGCAGAUUAAAACAGAAGAGCGUUAUUGCCAUGGAAAAAGCGCUUUGACAUUGUUAUGGGGAUCGUGCAAGGACUUGUUUAUCUCCACCAAGAUUCUAGACUUCAAAUCAUUCAUAGGGAUCUCAAGGCAAGCAAUAUACUGAUAGAUGAAAACCUGAACCCCAAAAUUUCAGACUAUGGCUUGGCAAUAAUUUUUGGAGGGGGAUGAAAUGGAAGCAAAAACAGAGUAAUUGGAACAUAGUAAGUUCUGUGCUUCUACUUUAGAAAUGAUGUGCUUUUCCUUGAAAUAACUUAUAUUUGAAAUCUUCAUGCAGUGGCUACACAUCCCCAGAGUAUGUGAUUGAUUGCAAAUUUUCUGUUAAAUUUGAUAUCUUUAGUUUUGGUGUGCUUCUGCUGGAGAUUGUGGCUGGUAUAAAGAACAGGGGGUUCUAUCAUUCAAACUACCACCAUAAUCUUCUGGGACAUGCAAGUAGAAAGAAUGAAAAUCCACCUCUGUCACACACACACAUCAAAGACGCAUGCCCUCUCUUGCUUUUCUGACAAAGUAUAUGGCUUCCAAUUGCUUUAGACAUGGUUGCUUUGGAAACAAGACAAGGCCUUGGAAGUAAUGGAUGCAUGUUUGGAGGACUCAUGUAUUGAAUCCCAGCUACUAAGAUGCAUACAAGUCGGUUUAUUAUGUGUUGAAAACCUCCCAGCAGAUAGACCAGCUAUGUCAUCUGUUUUUUUCACGUUGGGUAAUGAGGGAGCAACACUUCCUUAACCUAAACAUCCUGGUUUCUUCCCAGAAAUAAGUAAGAUCGAUAUAGAUGCAACAACAGGACGUGAAGAGUUACCUUCAGAAAAUGUAGUAACCAUCUCAGUGCCAGAAGGUAGAUAAAGGAUUCAAGCACUGUGUCAGCAUGUGCAGGGUGCAUCCAAGGUUUAAUUCAUGUAGGAUAUAGCACUAGGCUCUUCAAUGGAUGGACACCAAUUUCCUUAAGGUUGCAAAACUAGAUUACAGCUUGGCCCCAAGGAGGCCAAGGUGUUGGAUUUACUGCACUAGAACCAUAUCUGCUGAGCUUCAUAAUCCUCUAAAUGUAUGAAUAAAAUGUGCUAGAGCGUGUCCUCUAUGGCAGCUCAGGGCAGUGUGACUUGUAACUUAAAACUCACUAGUACAACUUUUGAAAUUCAUAUUUUCACAGGAUCAAGUUGGGUAUAUGCACAAGAAUGUGGAUUCUGCAGUCAACUUGGCUGCUUCACUUUCUUUUCCUCAGAGUUCACAUUUAUAGGGCUUAUAUAGAUGCUGAGCUAUACAAAAAAUCUUGAUUUGAAAUCUCAAGAAUUUCUAGAGGUGUUCAAAAUCCUUUGAAAUGUCCUUGGGAAGUGCAAUGAGCUUGCAACAAAUUGGAGUGAAUGGAGAUAAACAAAUUGAAAAUCAAAUGAGAGGAUUUGAAGCUUAAACAAAUAAACACCUUCACAUAAUAAGGUGUGAAUCUCUACUGUCUCUCUCAAGUUAAGACAUCUUUUAACUUCUUUUCAUCUUCCCAGAAGCUUCAAAAUUUUUUGCAAAACAUUAACUUGAAUACUGUACAGUGGCAAACCUUAGAGGGAGCUUUCAAAUUAUUUAGGAGAAAGAAUUCAAGAACUAUGUAACAGAUGAUUCACAUAGGUAACAGGGGUGAAAUUGCCCGACUUAAUAGAUUUUCAUGUGAUUAUGAGUGUGAGCCUUGGGGAGUGGUGUAAGGCGUUGUGCUUGAACAACUGUUCUUGUACAGCAUAUGCCUACUCAAAUCUUAAUGGAAGCAGUGGCUGUUUGAUGUGGUCCGGGAACCUGAUUGAUAUCAGAGAGUUAAGUACAGAAACAAAUAAGGAGGACAUCUAUAUCCGCGGGCACACUUCUGAGCCAGGUAAGACACUUGAUUUUUUGUAACUCACUUUUUUCUUUUAAGCUAUCGGGGUUCUCUCCAAUAGCCUCAGCCCUGAGUUAUCCUGGUAAUCAAGACGCAGAAUAACUUAUUUUCCAGAGGACAGAGAUUCAACUUCACAAGAAAAUUAUAAUCUAGUUAAAAAUAAUACCCUUAUAUUAUGCUCCUGAAGAACCAUAGUUCUUAGGAUCCAGGUUAACUAAUGAUGAACUGACUUGUAAUAAUCCUAACAAGCAGAAAGCAAAUAUCUGAUUCAUUUUCUGAAGAAGCAGGGAAAUCUGGGGAAAUAGAUACUUCAUUCCUGUCACCGUCUGUUCCAGAGUCAUACACUAAUCAGAAGACCAAAAAAAUAGUGAUCAUCCUUGUUAUAUCCAACUAUUUUGGAAUCCUCACCUUGGGCUUAGCAGUAUGGUUUCUAUUUCUGAAGAAGAGAACAAUGGGAACAGGUAUGCAUACUUAUCCACCUUGAUGAUUUUGUUGAAAGAAAACCAUGUGGCAGUGCUUUAAAAGUUACUUCUAAGUUAUUAUCCCUUUUAACAGACCAGGAAAGCAAGAAGGAGAACUUAGAGUUACCUUUGUUUGACUUGCCUACCGUUGCAACUGCUACUAACAACUUCUCCAACACCAAUAUGAUUGGAGCAGGUGGCUUUGGGCCUGUGUACAAGGUAAUAUGCGCCAUCUAAUGCAUCUCGGUAACCCAAAAAUGAUCUCGAAACAAAGAAGAGAAAAAUAUUUGCAUCUUACACAUCAUAUUUUGCAGGGCAAUCUGCCAGAAGGAGUAGCAGUAGCAGUGAAGAGAUUGUCCAAGAAUUCAGCACAGGGUGUGCAAGAGUUCAAUAAUGAAGUUGUUUUGAUGGCGAAACUUCAGCACAAGAAUCUUGUCAGGCUUUUGGGCUGCUGCGUUCAAGGAGAAGAAAGAAUUUUACUCUACGAAUCUAUGCCCAACAAAAGCUUGGAUUAUUUUAUUUUCGGUUUGAGCUCCGUAUCCUUAUCUGUUUGGAUUAGUUUCACUUUUUGAUCACCCAUCUUAUGCUCAGUCGUGUUCAGCUCAAUUCACACAUCUAAGUAAUGAAUUAGGCCUAAUAAAAAAUUUUAUGAAGGCGGAUGUAUUGUGCAGAUCAAAACAGAAGAGCAUUAUUGGCAUGGGAUAAGCGCUGCGAGAUUGUUAUGGGAUAGCACGAGGGCUUCUCUACCUCCAUCAAGACUCUAGAUUUCAAAUUAUUCACAAGGAUCUCAAGACGAGCAAUAUUUUACUGGACGACAAUCUCAACCCUAAAAUUUCAGACUUUGGCUUGGCAAGAAUUUUUGGAGAGAAUGAAAUGGAAACGAGAACAAAGAGAAUUAUUGGGACUCAGUAAGUUAUAAACCUUUAUAAUUUUAUAAAAUGGAAUUUAUCCCUUCAAAUAACUCGUACUUAAAAAUGUUGGUGCAGUGGCUAUAUGUCCCCUGAGUAUGUGAUUGAGGGGCACUUUUCUGUCAAAUCAGAUGUUCUUUAGCUUUGGUGUUCUUUUACUAGAGAUUGUGAGUGGUAAAAAACCAGAGGGUUCUCUCAUCCAUAUCACCACCACAACCUUCUGGGACAUGUAACUAGAAAGAAUGCAAUGGUGUUUCCUCUCUCUCUCUCUCUCUCAAUUUGUCUCUACUCUCUACCUUUUUCUGGGUUUUGUGGAAGACAAUAAAUAUGAUUUUUGCUCUAGGCAUGGCUGCUGUGGGAACAAAACAAGGCCUUGGAAUCAAUGGAUGCAUGUUUGGAAGAUUCAUGUGUUGCAUCGCAGGUAUUACGAUGCAUACAAGUAGGUUUACUAUGUGUUCAGAACCUUCCAGCAGACAGACCAGCAAUGUCAUCAAUGAUUUUCAUGUUGGGUAAUGAGGGAGCAACAUUGCCUCAACCUAAACAUCCUGGUUUCUUCACGGAAAGAUGUUCAGUGGAUACAGAUACAAUGUCAGGAAAGAUAAGAGUUACAUUCAGAAAAUGAAGUAACCAUCUCAAAGCUAAAAGGUAGAUGAAGAAUUCAAACAUCUGCUUAGUGAAUUAGUUAUGCAGGUGCCAGCUUCUGUGACUGAAACGGUUUGCAAAGGUUCCUCUGUUGCAGCUCAGGGCACUGAAAUCUGCAACUUAAGACUCACUAGUAGAAUUUCUAAGUUCAGAUUCCCUCUGGAUCUGGUUGGUAGUAAGCAGAAGAACAUGUAUUCUGCACUCACUUUAUAUGUUACAGUCACUUUAUCUUCCACUUGUUGUAGAAGCCCAAUAGGGGCUACACCCAAACACCCGUUAAAAGCCCAAACCAAUUGAGCCUAGAGGAUGAGUGCCAAAGCCCAAUGAAAUCUCAAGGCAAGGUGUUUGUACCUUGCAUUUGAUCCACUGAGCUUUAAAAGCAAAGGUGAGGCCAUUGAGCUAUAUGUCAUGCUAAAGUAAUAGCGUUGUAAAAUUAAAUACAUAGCAAGAUUAAUGGUUUUUCUUCAAAAAAAUUUUAUGUGAAUAUUUACGUUCAUGCUUAUUUUUAUAAUAAUAAUUAUCAAAUUAAUAUAAUAAUUUUAAAAUAAUAAAAUACAAAAAAUAAAGAGAUAAAAUUAAAUACUAUGAUUUUUUUUAUCUUAAACAUAUCUUUAUGUUUAAAUAUUAUACAUGUUCUAUUUAAUAAGGUUUAAAAUAUUAAUAUAUUUAUAUUUAUCUUUAUAAUUUAAUUUGGUAUGUGUAAUAUAAAAUUGAAAUAUUAUUAAAAUUUGUAAUUAUAUAUUUUAAAUUUCUUAUAAAUUUUUUUUGUACAAUAUAUAAAUUAUAUAAUUAUUACUUUACCGGUUUGAUCAUGGUUGAACCACUGAUCUGACCAGUGAAUCGUGAAUGUAACAACCUACAUCCAAUCUCAAAGAGGCUCUCACAACUUUAAAACAUAUCUACAAAUUAAGAACUCAUACAUAUAUAGCAUCAAGAUAGCAUCAAGAUAGGGGAGAAAGUUCUUAACACUAUAUAAGUAUAAACUCUUCUUAACAGCGAAGCUUUAAAAAUUUUUGCGAAACAUUAACUUGAAUGCUAGACAGUGGCAAACCUUAGUGGGAGCUUUCAAAAUUUUUAAGAGAGAGAAUCAUGGUUUAAAUAUUGGUAAAUAUGGAAUAUUUGUACCUACAUUUUACGGAUAUAUUGGAAAUAUCGAUGAAUAUUUUGACAAAAAUAUUGGUAAGACAAAAAUUAUUCAAAAUUUAUAAAAAUAUUUAGAAAAAUUUUAAAAAUGAUAAAAUAAAUAAAAAUACAUAUGUUAAAGUUUUUUUCUAAAAAUAAUUGACAUAGAUAUGAUCAAAUAGAAAAAUAUCGAUAAGUAAGGAUAAAUCAAUCUUAAUAAUUUAUUAUUUAUCCAAUCAAAUUAAUUUUAAUUUAUAAAAUAUUAGAAUUUCAUUAUUUUUGAAUAAAUUUAUAUUUUUAAUAUUUUAAACACAUGCGAAAAUAUCAUCAAUGGAUACUUUUUAAAUAACAAUGAAAAGUUCUUACAAAAAAUAUAUCUUAAUAAUAAAAUAUCAAAGACAUACAUAUUAUUUGGGAAAAGAAAUUUAAAACACUUUCCAACAUAUAAAGUGCUUUAUUCAACCAAUAGUAACAAAGACAAGCUUUGACUUGGAUUGAAAGCCUGGCCAAGUCAAAAAUUGAAACCUUAUCCUCUUGAUGCUGUGUCUUGGACAAAUUCUAGGAAAAACCUACAUUAGAGCAAUUUUAGUAUUUUUUUAAACUUGUGUAUAGAAGUCUUCCUUUCAUCUGUCAGAAGCGUCAAUGGAGACCCAUCUUUUCUUUGCCUUCUUUUGUGCCUGGAUUUGUCUCUCAGUUCCCUUGGAGUCUUGUAUUGCAGCUAAUUCCAUAAGGAUUGACCAACCCAUAGGCGAUGGUGAGUCUUUAGUUUCCUCAGGCCAAAGCUUUGAACUAGGCUUCUUCUCUCCUGGCAGCUCCAAAAACAGGUACUUAGGAAUAUGGUACAAGAAUACACCCCGGACAGUUGUAUGGGUUGCAAACAGAAACAACCCGAUCGCAGAUUUGUAUGGAGUUUUAACCAUCUUCAACAAUGGCACACUUGUUCUUCUCAACUAGUCAAAGAGUGUAAUCUGGUUGAUUUGUUCCCAAUUUGUGUCUCAGUUGACUCAUGUCCUCUCAAUGGUCCCUGACAGUGGUGCCAUUUGAUUCGUGUCCAGGUGGUGUCCCUUGAUUGUGGUCCUCAGAAGGGAGUAAUCAACAAAAUUUAUAACCUAUUACACCAUGUACUAGGAUAGCCUUAGCUAGCAUAGCAUAGUGGCUCUAGGGUCGUUCACUGGGAUGGGUUUUCACUUCACAAUUGAUAUUAAUUCAAAGUUGAAUUGGUGCCUUUUCAUUUCAAGGUUAGCUUUAAAAGAAAACAUAAAGAUGUUUAAAUGAAAAAGGUUUGGUUUUAAACUAACCAAAAAUAGUAACUGAUUUUACUUACAAAGAAAAGUGUUUCUUGGAGUUUAGAUCACUAGGUUCAGGUUCCUCAUACAAAAAGGAGAGUUCCGGUUACUUGUUUCUUUUCCUCGCAUUAGAGAAUUAACAUAUAGUUAAUUCUCUAACCGGUGUGGUACAGAUGCUUCCCUUUAAUGGGUUCAAACACUAAAUCCCUCUCACUGAUGCACCUUGCAAUGGCUCGUGCCUCUCACCUAGCAUUUGCCAUUCAAGGUGAUCCUUAACCUUGGAUUAUCCGUCAAAAGCUCGCAAGAGAUAACUAAUGGAUGUCUCCUUGGAGUCCAAAAGCUUACCAAGUGUUGGCUAUUCUAGAAAAUCCUACCUCUAAACCACCUCCCAAAGGCUCGCAAGAGAUAAACAAGUGCAUCUCAAUGAACGGAGACCACUUGCCUUAUCAAGUGUUGGCCCAGGUGAGUUAAAGGCGUUUUAAGUUAACUAAAAAGAUAAAAACCAUUAACGAGUCACACUUUCUCUUCAUUAAAAACUAAAACAACAAAACUUCCAAUUUCUGCAUGAGGAAACUUACCCGACUUUCUUCACUCCAAGAGACGAAGAGCCUAGCCUCUCAUCAUUUGAGAAAAAAUCCUCAGAGUUUGAUUGGCUAGAAAGAAAACUAACGAGAAAACAAAAAUAUGAAGGAAAAACAGAGCAAGUGCCCUGUUCGUCGAUUCCAUAUAUAUGAUAUAUAUAUUAUAUAUUUUCUUUAUAUUGGUUCAAAGAUAUAUAUAGAGAAUAUAUUUUCUAAGAAAUAUCCCAAUAAUAUCUUUGACUGAUUACAAGGAGAAAAUAGAAAUUUACACAAAAUAUCUUGAGAGAAAAAAUCUAACUUAGUCAGUGGCAAAUAUCAAGAAGCUUCAGGAGAACACCACGGCACUGUAUACUGAGAGAAAAACUCUCCGGGUAAGCGCUAUCAGAGGAUCCGGAUAUGUCUGACUGGAGAAGUUGAAACGUCUUCCUCUCCCAUCCAGCGUCAGGCUCCGGAUGUGAAAUAUCCCGCGCCGCAAGGCUAUCCGGAUCAACUCCAUCAGGAUUCCCCCGGGUGGAAGGAGCUAUGUCGCAAGGGGGACCGUCUGCGUGUGCAAGGUGUAGGGACCCCUCUCCCAGAUGACACGGAGCACGCAAGGCUAUCCGGAUCAACUCCAUCCGGAUUCCCCAAGAGGACAUGUGGCGCGCUUCCCUAUUCGGACUCCCUCAGGGAGAAGCACAUGACACUCGUGAACAUCACACCCGGACGAUAGCAUAUCCUAUCCGGAUGUGUUGUCCAGAUCAUUGACUUAAUGUGAGCAAGCCUUGCUACGUCAUUCAAAUAGCCUGCCACAGACCAUGUUCUGUCGCCAUCCUGUCCGGACACCCUGUCCGGACAUCUUUACCAUGGAUUUCAAAGAACUCUCCUUAAUCUCGGAUUGCUUUGGUGAUCAAAAAGCUAUCAAAACACCAAAACUUAACACAAUUUGAUUAGAAUUGAUUGCAAGGGUCCUUAAUAUGUUAAUUGGGUUAAAAGGUGAUAACUACUACUCAAAAGUGUUUAAAAGAGUUAAUUACAAGCUAUGAAAUAACACUUUUUGAGUAGUAAUCACUGGUCUCUCAAUUUGUCAAAGGUACCAGAAAAUCCAGUUGCACAGCUCCUGGAGACUGGAAAUCUUGUUCUUAGGGAUAGUGGUAAAGAAAGUUUUGAAACCUAUAUAUGGCAGAGCUUUGAUGAUCCAUCAGACACAAUGUUGCCAGGCAUGAAGGUGGGAUGGAACUUAAAGACUGGUCUACAACGAAAAUUGACAUCAUGGAAAAGUGCUGAUGACCCAUCUCCUGGAGGCUUCUCUUAUAGAAUUGAUAUUAAUGUGCUGCCUUACAUGGUUCUUGGUGUGGGAGUAGGCAAAAAAGUCCGUUCCGGGCCAUGGAAUGGACUUGAAUUCAAUGGUUUGAAUGCGUUGGAUAACUCGGUUUACAAAGCAGUUUUUGUUGCCAACAACGAUGAGGUAUAUGCCCUCUAUGAGUCUAACAACAAUAAGAUCAUUUCAAGACUAACAUUGAACCAUUCAGGUUUCCUCCAGCGUCUGGUAUUAAAAAAAGGGAGCUCUGAAUGGGAUGAAUUGUACUCAAUUCCCAGUGAACUUUGUGAAAAUUAUGGCCAUUGUGGUGCUAAUGGUAUCUACAGAAUUGGCAAGCUGCAGAUUUGUGAGUGUUUGACAGGUUUCACAAUAUCAUGUUAUGCCAUUUGGUCUUUGUAAUGCCCCAUCCACUUUUCAAGCCAUCAUGAAUUCCAUAUUUCGCCCUCACCUCUGACAAUUCAUUCUAGUAUUCUUUGAUGAUAUUUUAAUUUAUAGCCCCAAUUGGAACAUGCAACUUGAACAUGUUAAGCAAGCUUUUGAAAUUUUGAGGCAUCACACAUUUUUUUUAAAACUCAAAAAACGUGCCUUUAGCCAACAAGAAUUAGAAUACUUGGGGCAUAUUGUCACUGCUCAUGGGGUCAAAGUGGACCAAAAUAAAAUAUAGGCCAUGCUUGAUUGGCCUCAUCCUACUAAUGUUUCAAAGUUACGUGGGUUCUUAGGCCUUACAAGUUACUAUCGGAAGUUUGUUCGCAAUUAUGGCAUCUUGGCUGGCCCACUCACUAAUCACUUGAAGAAAGGCCAAUUUGGGUGGACUGCAGAAGCUAAGACCUCCUUCAAGCUCCUUCAACAAGCUAUGACUACCACUCCCACCCUUGCCAUGCCAAAUUUUCAGGAACCAUUCACUAUUGAAUCUAACGUUUCCGGGGAUGGGAUUGACACUAUACUCACCUAACAAGACAAGACCAUUGCCUUCAUGAGUCGAGCCUUAGGAGUCUCCAAAUUAUCCUGGUCUACAUAUGCCAAAGAGAUGCUUGCCAUCAUUCACGCCUUGGCACCCUUAUCUUCUCGGGUAGAAAUUCUACAUCCAAACUGACCAGUGGAGCCUCAAGUACUUACUUGAGCAGCGUGUGGUAACACCAGAGUAGAAGAAAUGGGUUGCAAAGCUACUUGGCUAUGAUUACGAGAUACUAUAUAAACUUGGCCGCGAAAACUCAACCGCCGAUGCCCUUUCCAGUGUGCCAGGCUCCCCAACUCUUAAUGCUUUAUUUGUUUUGCAGGUUAAAAUAUGGGAGGAAAUCAAAACAGCCUUGGCAGACAAUGCUUACAUGGCCUGCAUUAGCAAGCUCACUACUAUCAAACCUGGCCUUUCCUACACCAACCGUCACGGGUUGAUCUUCUACAAAAAUCGAGUGGUGGUGUCCCCUCAAUCCCAUAUCCCGAAUCAGUUACUACAUGAGUUCCAUGACUCUCCUUUUGGUGGCCACUUCGGAGUGCUGCGCACAUAUAAACGUAUCACUCAACAGUUUUAUUGGCCCUCAAUGUAUCGCAUGGUGAAUGAGUAUGUCUCCUCUUGUGAUGUUUGUCAACGAGCUAAGGCAUCCACCUUGUCCCAUACUGGUCUCUUACAGCCGUUGCCCAUUCCUUGUCAAGUAUGGGACGACAUCACCAUGGAUUUCAUCAAAGGACUGCCUCCAUCCCAAGGCAAGAACACAAUAUUUGUGGUCGUCGAUCACCUUAGCAAAUCAGCUCACUUCUUGGCCUUAACUUGCCCUUUUUCUACCAAGAUGGUAGUAGAAAAAUUUGUUGAGGGUGUCUUAAAAUUACACGGCAUGCCUAGAUCAAUCAUCAGUGACCGUGAUCCAAUUUUCAUAAGCAACUUUUGGCGUGAAUUCUUUAAAUUGUCCAACACACAAUUAAAGAUGAGCUCUGCAUACCAUCUCCAAACUAACGGGCAGAUCGAAGUCAUCAAUCGCUAUGUCAAGCAAUAUCUAUGCUGUCUGGUUCACCAGCAACCACAAAAAGGGUACUCCCUUCUUCCUUGGGCAGAGUUUUAGUACAAUACGACUUACCAUGUUUCAAUCGGCAUGUCACCUUUUCAAGCUUUGUAUGGUUGCCCUCCCCCCAUGAUUCCACACUAUUAGUUGGGUUCUUCUCCAGUUAAUGAGGUCGACCAAAACUUGGCCUCACGCAAUGAUCUUCUCAAUCAGCUCAAACUCAACUUACAUCAAGCUUCCAAUUGGAUGAAACAAAUCGCCGAUUCAAAAAGGCGGGACAUCGAAUUCAAUGAAGGUGGCCUUGUUUUCCUUAAACUGCAUCCUUAUCGCCGACAAAUAGUGUUCAAAAGAGCAUCUUAGAAACUUGCUCACCGGUUUUAUGGGCCCUUUCCAAUUGAGAAACGCAUUGGCAAGGUAGCAUAUCAACUCCAACUUCCUGCGGGGUCUUGCAUCAAUAUGGUAUUCCAUGUUUCUUUGUUAAAAAAGAAGAUUGGUGAUUCAAGUGCAAGUUGUCCUACUUUGCCACCUCUCACCGAUGAUGGUACCCUCAUCAUCGAACCUGCAGAAAUCAUAGACACUCGUUGGCUUAAAAAAAGGGGGAAAUUUUUUGAAGAGUGCUUGGUCAAAUGGAAACACCUUUUCGUUGAAGAUGCUACUUGGGAGAAUGCAGCAGAGUUGCAAGAUUGGUUCCAUGACUUGAACCUUAGGGACAAGGUUCCAAUAAAAGUGGGGGGUUGUGGACCCGCAUUUAUCACGUGCGCUCCCACUCGAUCGGCGAUACUCGCUUUUUAUUCGUGAAAAUUUAAUUUUAGAAAAGUUGGAGUCGCCACUUAUUUUAUUUUAUUUUAAAAGGGAAAAUAAAACAAGAAAGAAAACCCUAAAAAGUGACUCCAUAAUUUUUGGAAAAAAGGCAUGCCUUUGAAAACCUGAGUCUAGGUCCGGGGAUCAGGUUACCUAUUAGGAAGGUACCUUUAAAAGGUAGCACCCCUCUAAGCCCUAUAGAGGUCUCUACUAACUAAGUUGAGGGAAAUGUGGCAAUUAAUCGAUUAAUUAUAGAUACCUAAGUAAGCUUGGUGAUUUUAAAAUAACAUGUUAACAAGAAAAUCAAUCACAAUCAUAUAGAAGAUUCAGGGUGCGUACCUGAACCACUUCUUAAGCGCUAUCAUAAAACAUCAAUUGUUAGUUUAGAUAAUAUAUCACUCAGCAUGCAUUUUAUCAUGAAUGAUCAAACAACAUAACAAAUAUCAAGACAUCCCAAGCAUUCUCAAACAUAGGUGUAAUUUACAAUGACAAUCAUAUUUAUAGAAUUUAGAAAGUAUGUGACAGGGGACGUACCUGGAUAACAUAGAUAACUUACAAUGCGCUUCCAUAAGACAUGAGGGGUUAGAUAAUAAAUAAUAAAAUAUAGAAAUCCUAGCAUGCUCGUUAUCUAAUUAGCAUAGCAGAAAUUAUCAAAGUAUAUGAAAACACUAAUUAUCACACUCAUCUUGUAUACAAUUCCUAAAAAAAGAUAGACAUAAUUUCAACAAGUGACAAAAGUGGCAACAAAAAUAAUUUUUGAAAAGAUUUUCUUAUGUAGGGGUUUCACCAAUUCCCCAAUUGAUAUACACGAAUUUAGCCUAGAAUUAUCCCAUUUAUUUGGGACCACAAGCUUUGAUUCGUGUUUUAUUCAAAACUGCAAUUUUUUUUUUUUUUUGAAAUUCGAGGAAGAUGUGAACCGAUCAAAACAUGGUUGCACAUUAUUUAAGAAAAUGAGAUUUUGAUUUUAAGAAUCCUAAAGGAAUUAUUGAAAUGAAUUUUUAAAGGGAAUGAGAUUUUGAUUCUGAGAACUCUAAAUGAAUUUUUGAAAUGGUUUUUUAAGGAAAUGAGAUUUUGAGAAUAUUGUUAUGUUUUAAAGAUAAAAGAAGUUAAUUUGAAAACAAUAAAAUGUAUGAAUCAAAAUACCAAGCAAAGGAAAAAAGAACAAAAUCACAAAGUAGAAUUUUUGACAACCGAUAAAAUUGAAGUGGUGGGAAUGGAGGCCAAUCUUCACUAUUUUCUGAUAGCCUCUAAAAAUUGAUUUUGACAAAGGAUGACCAAAGUGAUAAACCAAAACCUUAGAUCUUACAAGCACUGAAACUUUAAAAACAUUUAAUCUUAAGAUAAACUUAAUCAAGCACUAAAUAUUAAGUGACCUUUAAAACAGUACAAGCGAUACGUAUUAACUAAUAUUGACAAUUUUGAGUCAUAAAUCUAAUCGGCUAACUAAACAAUUGAAUAAAAGAAAACAAACACAUAAAAUAAAUAAAAUUAGUCAAAAACUGAAAUGAACUAUUUUUAAACACAAAAUGACAACAUGGGAAUAGAUUAAACUAAUAGCCUACAAUUCGAAAGCAUAGAAUUAAUGGAAAAAUGGAAUAAAAAAAAUCUUAACAUAAACUAAACAAUAUGAAACCAACCAAAUUAAUUAAAACUCUAAAAAAAUAUCAACUAAAACAGGAUCAAUCAAAACUAAAAUAACUAUUUAUUUUUAUUUAUUUAUUUUAUUUUUUAUUUUUUUAAAAUUUUAAAACAUGAAUAUAUCAACGCGGAAUGAAAUAAAUUAACCAACUUAAAUUCUAAAACUAAUAAACUAAAAGGAUGAAUCAUGAAUUAAAUUUAACAACCUUUAGAUAUGAAAAGAGUGACAUGGAAGCAAUUGAACUAAUAAACUGAAUUUUAAUAACAUUUAAACUAAAAGAUAAAUUAAAACUAAACUAAAAGAAAUUAUGAAUUUCCUAAUUGAGAACAAAAAUAAUGCCAAUCAAAAUUCUAAAUUUUUAACCAUUAUCACACAUUAUCCAAACUCUAAAAAAUCCUAACUUUUCCAUUAUCAACAAAAUUGCCCAAACCAAUACUUAAAAAUAAUAAUAAUAACAAUAAUAAUAAUAAUAAUAAUAAUAAUAAUAAUAAUAAUAAUAAUAAUAAUAAGUAAAUAAAAAAAUCUAAUUUGUCGAACUAAGAAAAUAAAUUGUAACUACAUUAAACAUAAAUCAUAAUUUUCAAGCAAGAAUAAUAAAUCAGUAAUAAUUAAUUUAGUUAGUUAAGAAAAAUUAAAAAUUAACAUCUAAGCUAAAUAUGAAUUUACAAUAAAAUAAAAAUUUUAAAUGCAUAGGCCGAAUGGGAAUAAUACAAAACUAACUUUAACAAAUUAAAAACAUGAAUACAUUGACAUUGGGAAUGAGUAACUAAAUAUAUAAAAUUCUGAAAUAAUUACGAAUGGCAUUGAAUAGUCAUGAAUCAAAAUUCAAAUAGGAAGAAUUAAUUUACCUUUCUCAAAGACGCGUGGGCUACUCUCCAACAAAAGUGACAGUAUGAUUUUUUUUAUUUAAGAAAGUCAAUUCUAUGAUGCAUGGUGUGAUAGUUAUGGAUCAAUCAAGACUAAAAGAACUAAUAAUUUAAGGAACAAAAUAAAUUAAUAUGGAUAUUCAAAAUUAAUAACAAAUAAUUUUAUGAAGUGCACACACCGGGUAAUCUAAAUUAAUAAUAAUAAUAAUAAUAAUAAUAAAAUAAAAUAAAAUAAAGACCUCAAAAAUCUUAAAUUAAACAGAAACAAAUUUAAUGGCUUGCAAACAUGCAUAUAUUCACGUAAGAUUAAUUAAACUAGAAAAUAAAAAGAACUCAAAAGACAUAACGGGAAUAAUACAAAACUAAAUUUAACAAAUUAAAAAUGUGAAUAUAUUGAUAUUGGAAAUAAAUAACUAAAUAAAUAAAAUUCUGAAAUAAAUUGAGUUGAAUAGUCAUGAAUCCAAAUUAAAACAGGAAGAAUUAAUUUACCUUGGUCAAAGACGCGUGGGCUACUUUUGUUAGUGACAGUAGGAUUUUUAAAAUCAAUUCCACCUGGUGUGGUGGAUACCAUGCACUGCAAAUACUUGCAGUCACCAAAACAAUGCGUAUUAGUGGAGAGAAAUCUUCCUUGACAGUGUGUUGCCCUUGAGAGAAUCUGGUGGUCUCCUUUAUGUCCUCCAAGCAGCAACCCCUUAAAUUGAAUGACAUUUUCUAUGGCCACGUGAUCCCCUUUGGUGCAGCCCGCGCAUGGAGUCCUUCUUGGUGGCUGGUUUCUGGGCAAAAUCUGGCGAGCUCCUUUCAAAGUCCAGAAUGCGUGGAUGUUCUCGAUGAGAAACCCACGUUUGGUGAAGACGAAGGUAAUCCGCGUCUUGACCGGAGAGAAGACUUCUUGGACGAUAUAUUUUUUUUAAAACGAUAGCUCCUAAUAGUUCACGAAAACACGAUCUGAUCCGGCUGCUAUCGCGCCCUUCAAGGUACAGUCGUGCUUCUCCGAAGCUUUUCCAGUGCGGCUGCCUCCUUUCCCUUCCUUCUCAAUGGUGCUCCUCCUCUAAAAAACUAGCCCCACUUCAUCACCCAAUAUGCUAUCUUUCCUUGCACAGCCUAACCUUCCAAAAACCAGCCUUCCCCAUACCUUUUCCAUGCACGUUCAGAAUUUUCCUUUUUUUUAGACCUAGCCCUCAUUUCGUCCACGUACAUGCUAAGUCUUUUCUUUUUCCUUUUCACUUGCCAAAACCACUUUGGUAAUUUUCCCUACAACCGGCUUCAUUCAUCCACCAAUCCGUGUGUCAUUCUCAUUCCUUUCUAAAAAAUUCUGAUCCUUCUUUGUAUCUUCCCCUAAAAACCAUCCUUAUUCAUCCAUUAUUUAUAUUCCGCUUCCACGCCCCGAAUCCACCUUUCCAAAAAACAGUGUGGUCCCUUUCCAUGAGCAUCUUUUGCACACCUUCCCAUUGACUCCACCUACAUGGAAGAAUAACAAGAAAAAAAUUCCAGAAAAGAAAGCAAGAAUCCAUGAAGUCAAAACCAUUCCCGUCAUUCAAAUUCAACAUUCCUUUCAUUAAAAUUUCAAGAAGUCCUUAAAUCCCAAAUAGGAAAAUAUCAAUACAUAGAUAAGAGGAUACAUACCUAAAAAUAAAUAAAUAAAUAAAUAAAUAAAUGUUAGAUAUAUUUAAUAAUAAUAAUAAAAAGAAUUAAACUAAUGCAACAUAUAAUAAUAGUCGAAGUGUCAAACUCAAGCCACCAAUAAUAAUAAUAAUAAUAAUAAUAAUAAUAAUAAUAAUAAUAAUAAUAAUACUAAUAAUAAUAAUAAAAACUCAUUUCAUGCAAUUAUAAAAUAAAAUAAUUAACAAAAAAAAUACAAAUAAUAAUAAUGAUGAAAUAAUAUAAAUAUAUCAAAACUCACUUAAUCCUAAAAGCAAUCAAUAAAAUAAAUAAAUAAAUGAAAACAAAUCUAAGUGAAACUAAACCUUGAAAAGUGUUUAAGUGGGCCUAAGGCAGUGCCUAAUGGGCCAAGUGCGUUUAAUGGGCCUAAGGUGCACUAAGUGAACCUAAGGUGUCUAAAUGGGCCUAGGGUGAUGUCUAAUGGGCCAAGUGUCUAAGUGAGCCUAAGGUGCCUAAGUGGGCCUAAAGUGUCUAAAUGGACCUAGGGCGAUGCCUAAUGGGCCAAGUGUGGUGCCUAAAUGGGCCCAAGGUGCCUAAGGUGGCUAUGUGAGCCUAAGUCUAAAUUAGGGCUGCCAAGAGUCACAACGGGGUUAAAUGAACCCCUCAACCAAAGUCCCCAAGGUGGCUUAGAAAAGAUGGGCUACACGAGUAUUCAUGGGCCACCAGGGAAUUGCUAUAAACGACAUGUGCGAGGAAGACAAAAUAGAGGGUCUACAGGGGUAUUGAUAAACCACGAAGAUCUCAGCGUGUUUCUUGGCCAAAUCAGAAAUAUUUGGAUUGAGUCUUGAGCUGCAACGCUUGGAGAAGAAGUUUGGUUGUGUUAGAGUCUUUCUUUCAGUUGGAGUCCUAUUAUUCUGCUAGUCUGUUAUUUCUGCUUCCAUGAUUUAGUUUCUAUUUGUGCACAACAGUUGUGGCUGUAAGUUUAGGAAGAGUGGUUAGAAAAUAUAUGUAUUUAAACUCUUUCAAUGAAUAAAAAGGAUAUUGAGCAUAUGCUAAAAUCAACAGAAGGCUUUGACCUAUGAGAGAGACCCUAAAGUGGUCAUAUAUCCUUAUGGAUUAGGUCACCGUUAAUGGAGGCUAGUAACAAUAGGUAUUCUUAAUAGAGGCACCAUGAUAUCUCAUGGGAUUGAGACAGUGUGUCCCUUUGGGUGAUCCAAAGGACAUGUGAUUAUGAAAUUUAUGGCCACAACAAUUUCUUUUGUGGAAUUUAACUUAUGCUCCUUAGAGUUGGAGCUAGAGCAUGUUAGUUAAUCAUAUAAUAAGUGGGAUCUAUAACUCAAGGAUUGGAGAUGUAAUCUUGAUCGGUGAUAACACUACCUUGUUAGAUAAUGAACACCAGUUCAUGGGGAGUUUAUAUGCAAUGGAUAAUAGGAUGUCGUGGACCUGAACUUUGUCUCAUUGUUAUGUACAUAUGGUAUUGGAGUGUAGUUGAUUCUCUUUAAUGGAACGUUGAAUCAACUUUAAAAUUGGAUUUUGAUAGAGCAAAUACUCCAAUGGGUCCUAGUGGUUCUCACUUUAAGCUAAUAUACUAUGUGACACAUUUUAUGAGGGUUGGAUUGACUCUAGGUUGAUUCUUGUGCAUAAGAGCAUUUUGGUAAUUACACAAGGUUGCAUAGGGGAUAAUGAACAAGGUAUUUGGUUUGGGCUAAUUGAUCAAUUAGAUGACCCUAUGUAGUUAAUUAAUCAAUUAUGAGCCAUUUUGGGCUAGACUAAGUGACCCAAGCCUUGAUGGGCUUAAGUCACUUAAGCAUAAUCGACAAGCCUAUAAAUACCCCUUUAUAGGUUAGCGUUUCCUAAUGAAUUUCAAUGAGAGUUGUUUUCCACCUCUAGAGAAAGACAGAGAGAAAAUAAUAGCCUCAUCCAUUUUGUUGCCCAUACUUUAGAGUGCCAAGAUUGUGGUUCAAGUCAUCGGGUGGAGGAUCUUAGGUGUACGAGACCUCCUUAGAUGAGAGGCUACAACACUUGGACAUGCGUAGGGCACGUGCACAAGACGUGCAUAGACCAUGUGAAUAGGAAUUGCACGAGACAUGCACAUGGGUAGUAGCAUGAGGAGAGAGACUCUCCAGUUUUUCCAAGUAUGUUCUUCAUCGGAUGGAUUUUGAUCUAGGAACAUCUAAAUCACAUGUUUGAGUUUCAAAUCUCUAGAUCUAUAGUUAUUAAUGGUUUUCAUUGCUAAUUUAUUCCAUUGUGAUAGAUUUACAAAUGCCUAGGGAUAGAUGCAUUCACCCUAUGAGAUCCAAGGCAUAGGAACGAAGUAUUAAUCUAGGGUUCCCAAGUGAUGACAAUAGUAAGAUAUCAAGAUUGAACCUAACACUAAUUAAACAUCUGGUAUUUAGACCUAGGUCAUAUUAAUCUAAAUAGGAUCCAAAGAUUGUAAAGUCUGGACUCUUUGAUUCCGAAAGAUCUUCUAGUUUAUGAAUCCUAUAUAGAUGGUAAAAUGAUCAAGAGGACUAGAGGUAAGGAAUAUUUGGAGUUAGUGCAUACUAAUAUGUAUGGAACUUUUAGUGUCUAUGCAUGGAGAGGGUAUGGGUAUUUCAUCACUUUUAGUAAUGAUUACUUUAGGUUUGGAUAUGUACAUAGGAAAUCUGAUGUCUUGGAUACAUUCAUUGAAUUUAAGGCGAGAUCAAAUAACCUAUUGGGUAUACAUACCAAGUCAUUUCAAUUAUAUCAAGUUGAUAUGUUUGGUAAGUUUGAUUCUUUUUGUUAGAGCAUAAGAUUAUUUUCUAGUUAUGUUCAUCAAGGUCUCUAUUGCAAAAUGAAUAAGUGGAAAGAAGAUAUCAAACUUGGAUGGACAUAGUAAGAUUGUGGAUAGGUUUUUCAUAUUUUCUCAAAUUCUUUUGGGGAUAUGUCUUAUAGAUUGUGUAAUUACUUUUUUUUUUUCCUAAGAGGUGUAUUAGUUUAUAGGAUAUCUAAGAGGAUUUUUGGGUUAUCACCUUUAUAGUCAAUCAUUAAAAGAUAUUUGUUAACAUAAAUGUCCCAUUUUUCAUGAAGAUUAUAUGAUAAGGAAGAAGGCAUAAAGUGAUAUAGAUUGCAGGAUAUAUUAGAAGAUAGUCCCACAUUGCAUAGGAUACUACGGAUCCAAAGGGUUAAAGACAUACCAUUCCUAUGAUUUCUAGUACACCAGUACCUCAUCAUAGUGGGAAGUUUAUAUCCCACAGAUAAUGAUGAAGCGGUGAGCAAUGUUUAUGCUCACUUAAGGCAAGGACGUGUGAUCAUGAAAUCUAUGAGCCCAUAGUAAUUCCUUUAGUGAAAUUUGAGAUAUGCUCUUUGUGAGUUAGAGUAUGUUAUUUAAUCACAAAAUAAGAUGAUCUAUGACUCAAAGAUUGUAGAGGUAGUCUUGAAAGGCUGAUAACUUUCACCUUGUUAGACUAUGAACAACCAAUUCAUGGGAAGGCUGUAUACAAUAGAUAGCAAGUCACGAACUUGAGCACUUGGUGUCUCGCUGUAAUAUACAUAGAGUUCCAAAGUACAAUUAACUCUCUAUAGUAGGAUAUUGGAUUCUAAGGGAUCUAGUAUUGUCCUAUGGGUUCCAUUGGUCUCUACUAAAAGCUCAUCUUCCUUGAUAGCAUGGUUUAUGAGAGUUGGAUGGGUUUUUAGUUCACUUGUGUGCAUAAAGGCAUUUUGGUAAUUGCGCAAGGUUACACAGAGGUAACUGUGCAGUAUCUUGGAACUUGGCUAAUUGAUUAAUUGGAGCCUUAUUUUGUUAAUUAAUCAAUUAGCAACCUUUUUGGGCUAAAUUAAGUGACCCACACCCAUAAUGGGCCCAAGUCACUUAAGCAUAGUAGGAAACCUAUAAAUACCUUUCGCAAGGGUUUGGGUUUCUAAUUCAAUCUUGUCAUUCUCUCCCUAUAGUCCAAAGAGAGAACCCUAGUCUUCAACCUUGAGAUUUCCACCAUCUUAGUGCCUAGACUCAAGAAGGAGUCAUCGAGUGGAUGAUUAUGGGUUUAUAAGAUCUUUCUUAAAUUUGGAGCUUUCUACAUUAACAAGAAUUGAUUUGGGAACAUCCAAAUAAUAUGUAUAACACUUUUCUCUAGAUCUAUGACAUGUUUUUGUUUUUUAAAUACCAAAGUUUUCAACUAUGCUUAGAUCUAGAAAGCAUAAGAUAGGAUUACAUGCACCCUAAUAAUCCAAGGCCUAGGAAUAGAGUGAUCUAAGGUUUCCUAACAAAUAUAACCCAAUAAGUAAGAAUGAUUUAUAGGAACUAAAAUUUCUUUCAAAAAGAAAAGAAGUUUAUUGGAGUAAGAUAGGUAUACAAGAGAAGGAAAAAUGCAAAAUGAGUAGAAAAAUACAAAGCAACAUUGGUGCAAAGGAUUAUAAGCAAGAAUAAUGCACCAAUAAGAUGAGGGUAUUUGGUCUCAUUGCUCUUUUAGUAACUAUGAGAUUAAUAAUCUCUUUAAUAGCUCAAAAUAGUUGAAAAUUUUCAAAUGGAUGUGAAAUCCAAUUUUUUGAAUUGACAUCUUGAAGAAGAAGUGUAUGUAGAACAAACCAUAGUUGGUAUAUAUAUAUAUAUGGGCAUGAGAAUAAAGUUCCAAAAUUGAAAAUAACCUUGUAUGGAAUAAAACAAACACAAAGAGCAUGGAAUAAUAGAAUUGACCAAUAUUUUCACGAUAAUAAUUUUGUUUGAUACCUUUAUGAACAUGCUCUCUGCAUAAAAGUGAAUGAAAAAAGUGAUAUAUUACUUGUUUGUUUGGAUGUGAAUUGUUUGAUCUUUAUUGGAACAAAUCCAAUCAUGUUUAGUGAGUUCAAAGAAGUAAUAGGAUAAAAGUUUGAGAUGAUUGGAUUAGUCUCAUAUCAUACUCUCUUGGCAUAGACUUGAAGCAAAUUGAAAAGAGUACUUUUCAUUUCUCAAGAAGACCAUGCAAAAUAAAUUUUUAGAAAGUUUAACUUGAAUAUGUGUAAUAUGGUAAACACAAUAAUAUAAUGCAAAGCUAAAUUAUCAAAGACAUGUAGAAGGAGAAAAAGUGGAUUCAACAUAACAUAAAAUCUUAGUUGGAACCGUACACUAUUUGACUCAUACAAGUUCAAACAUUCUCUUUGGAGUUGGAUUUGUCCAUCAUUAUAUGGAAGCACUAAUGGUUAUUUACACUAAGACCUCCUAGUGAAUUUUUCACUACAUCAACGACACAUUUGAUUAUGACUUAUAUUAUUCACCUUUAACAAUUUUAGACUUGUUGGAUAUAAUGAUAGUAAUUAAGGUGGAGACUUGGAUGAUAUAGAGAGAACCAAUAGCUUUAUAUUCCUCAUGGGAGAGACACCAUGUUCGCUUGGACUUCAAAGAAGCAACCUAUUGUGAAACUUUCAACCUAUGAAGUGGAAUUUGUGAAAAUGUUUACAAAAUCUCAUAAUCAAAUUGUGAAAAUGUUUACAAAGUCUCUCAAGUUUAAUGAUUUUAGAAUGCUAAGGAUGCUACUUUUACAAAUCAAGUUGAAGGCAUGAGUGAAAAUGUUGACAAAGUUUAAAAUUUUUAGAAAACUAAGGAUGCUAUUUUUACAAACCAAGUUGAAGGGAGGAUGUUAGUUAAACUGGAUUUAGGAAGUUUCUAAAAAAUUAGAAUUUGAGUUAGAUUCUAAAAUGCUUGAUUUAGUUUGUAUAUUUUGUUAUUACAAGAUUUUAUAUUUUACCAUUAUGAGUAUCUAUUUUUUUUUAGGUGUUAAUAUCUAUAAAUAAGAUGUUACGUAAUAGUUGAACAAGAGUGGUGGAAGACAAUAAAUUUUUUCUUAGUCAUCUCAAUUAUUUAAAUAUCUCCCUUUACAUAUGUAAUUACUUGUGUAUUUUUUUCAACCAUAUUACUGCAACAUAUGUGAAUCUGCUGGUUGGUCUAUGAAAAUUUAUAUCAGUUGUUCAACCUGUUAAAUUCUGUUAGGUUUGUGUAACGGUAUUUAGAUCAUAGCAUCUUUCCCUAAGCCCGCAUUUUUCUAAAUAUAUAAUUAAAAUUGUUGUGCUUGCAAUUUUAAUGAAAUCUAGCAUUGGAUACUUAACUACAUCCCACAAAACGACAAAAUCACCUGCCUUUAGCCAAGUUGUGUUUCAACAGUAAAGUAAUUAUCUCAAUCAAAACACAAAAUUCAGUUUUCUAAACAAUUAUUGUUAUUGGAAAACAUGCACGGAACUUAAGCAUCAUAAGGUACUUAAGCAAUCCUAGUUGGACGUUCAGUAUCCAGAUCUUUUCAUUAAUUGGUUUUUCUCUUUUUGUGCCAACAUCUGCUCUCUCUCUCCAGCAUGCAAGCGUAAGUGGUAAGCACCUCUUUUGUGCUUUAAAUUAAUUGGAUACUUGAUCUUAUUCCGCCAUUCUUUUGGGUCUAACCCAAAAAUACAUUUACCAUGCCUUCUUUUCAUGUCCUCAACUUACUCAAAAGCUCAUAAGUCCCAUUGGAUAUGAUGUACUGAGUUUCAGAUUUUUUAAGUAAAAUUAUCAACAUCGUCUAGCAUAUAUACUAAUAAGUUAUACUCUUUUCAACAGUUUAAAUUGUUUUUGUUUAUAGAUUAUAUGGAUGUUUUAACACUCAGAGAAAUUGAAAUGCAGCCAAAUAUGCAGAAAAAAGAAAUGGUUGUGACCAAUAGUUAUAUUUAUUCUCUUUUAUUUCUAUUGAUACUCAAAUUUUUAGGGAUAGAGCGUCAACAAUCCUUGUGAUGAGUUAAUAAUGUUGAGAAAAGUCAAUGACUACACAAUGUAGCUUAAAACCAAAUAUGUCAUCAAAGAAGACAUCAAUAAUCACCCCCACACAAUGAUAUGUUGUAUAAUUCAUUACUUGUAUCAAACACAAAUUUGCUUCAAUGUGUGUCUAUGAAUAAAAGAGAGUUCUUGGUUUACAUUCGAAAUACAUGCUAUAUAGGCCAUGCUAAUAGCAAUUGAUAACAAGAAUCUCAACACUGAAGUCCACGUAGAAUCAGGUGUGCACCAUAUUGGGGUUGCAUAGUUAGGAUACUAAAAGGAGCAUGAGCAUAGGAUGGCGAAAGUUCAAAUGAGAAGUGUUGUAAGAUCAUUGCCAAAGCUAUUUUUGCCUCCAUCAUUGCAAAAUUUUGUCCAAUGCAUACCCGAGGACCCCAACCAAAUGGGAAAAAUGAAACUUGGUUUUUUGUUGCCUUCAAAACUCCUUCUGCAAACCUCUCUGGAUUAAACUCCUUUGCAUCAUCCCCCCAAAUUUCAUGAUCAUGGUGAACUAGGAUGGUGGGCAACACGACCUGCACUCCAGCUGGAAAACACAUGUCUCCCACUUGAGUAUCCUUAUAAACAGCUCUAGCAAGCAUUGCUACUGGUGGGUAUAACCUAAGAACCUCAUGAAAAAUCAUGGUAACCUGUGGUAGAGAAACUUUAGAAGUUGUUGCAUGAGAAUUCUUACUAAAAUACAUUCUAAAUCAUUAUGAAGGACACUGAAGAAUAAAGCAAUUUCUUAAAAUAGUGAUGCAGAAGACAAAAUGUUCUAAAUCAUGCAUGACAAAAUAUCAAGUAUGCAAAGGACAUUGCAUAUCCCAUGGAUAUAAUAACUUAAGAACCUCAUGAAAAAUCAUCAUAAUCUAGCAGAGAAAUUUGAAAUCAUGGCAUGAGAACCCGUUCCUGAGCUACUAAGUGAAAGCAAAUGUUUAGUACAAGAUAUAAAAACUUAAAGAGAAAUGUGUUUUCAAUUUGACUCCAAUUAUGGGGGAAAAAACAAAGUACUAUACGAUUUUAGUGAGAAUCAUUAAACUGAAGAUUGGACUAGUACUCACAAUUUUUAGGUGAUUUAAUCCAGCAGCUUCUGGUUUUUUAUUCCCAAAAACCUGUAAAACCUCUUCUCUUGCACGAGCUUGCCAGUUUGGAUGCUCGCUUAGCAGGACCAUUGUCCAUACAAGCAAAACUGAGGUUGUCUCUUGGCCAGCAAGAUAGAAUAGCUUACACUCUUCAAUGACAUCUUUGACACUCAUUCUAAUCUUCUUGUUAUUUUGAUGUUCUUGAAUUUCUCUAAAAUUGGAUUCCAUUAGUAUACCUAAUAAGUCACUAUUAGCAGUUUCGCCAGCCUUCAUUGCCUUCUCCCUUUUGUUAAUGAUACCCCUCAACAAUGCAUAUACUUCUUUGCUUAUUUGCUUCAUCCUCCUGUUCGUCUUUGUGGGUAAAAACCUGCCUGCAUGUUAGUAAUUCUAGUAAAUAAAACAUCACAUGAAACACAGACAUUAAUUCUUAUUUUCAUCCAUGCCUUCUACUUCUCCAUUAAUUUUUUGAAACUUGUAUAAGGCUUCAAAGGUAGAAGCUAUCAAGACAAUAACUAAUGGUUUCAUCUACACAUGUGUUGCAGUGGUAUCUCAUCAUCUUGACACAAUAUCCUGCAAACAUAAGCUAGAUUGAGGAUACUAAACAUCAAUUAGUGAAACAUACUACUUUCUAAACGUUAUACAAAAGAAGUAAUUGACUAAAAGGGGAUGAAAUGAUCUCAGAGUUGUAAAUCUAAUAUCUCUUAUGCUUGACCUUGAAAAGUAAUCCAUUUUUAACAUAAAUUCUCUUCGAACAUAAAUUCCCUUCAACCUUGUUAACCAAACACACACUUGAGCAUUGUGAAACUUUCAACCUAUGAAGCAAAAUUUAUGUUGGCAUCAUUUGUAGGUCAUGAAAUUUGUUCAAGAAACUUAAUUUACCACACAAGAGACUGAUAAAGAUCUAUAUGGAUAUAAAAUCAACAAUUACAUUAUGAGAAAAAUCUAGUUCUCCAUGAUGGUGUUGAAUUUUGAAUUUUGCCUUAGUAUCUGUUGGAAUUUGAAUUUUGAAGUUAAAUUUUGUAGUUGGAGUCUUGCACAAAAUCUGCAACAUCCAAAUAUUUUCUUGUUUUUAUUUGGUCAAGAUUUGGUUUCUAUUUUAUAGGAACUAAUUGUUCAUCAUCUAGUAGCUUGAUUUUCUGUUAUUCUAAUGUCAUUUUAGUUACAAGCUUAUGUAUAAAUUCAAUACUCUUCAUCAAUAAAAUGUGUGUUCCAGUAGUCCAAAAAUAUAUAUUCUGCAUAAGUGUUUUAAUCUAAGAUCAACAGAUGGAAGCCAGUAUAUUGAUACAAAAUAUCAUUGAUUAGAGAGUACAUUAUGAAAUAUGAAGUGCAAUUAAAAUUUACAAAAUCUCAUGAUCAAAUUGUGAAAACAUUAACCAAGUCCCUCAAGUUUAAAGAUUUUAGAAAGCUAAGGAUGUUAGUUAAACUAGAUUUAGAAAGUUUCUAAAAAUUAGAUUUUGAGUUAGGUUUUAAAAGUUAAUUAAAAUAUUUUAUAGAAAAUUCUUGAUUUAGUUUGUAUAUUUUGUUACUGCAAGAUUUUAUAUUUUACUAUUGUGAGUAUUUUUUUUAGGUGUUAGGUGUUACUAUUGUGAGUAUACAAUAAAUUUUUUUUUAAUCAUCUCAAUUAUUUAUAUAUGUAAUUGCUUGUGUUUUUUCAACCACAUUGCUGCAACAUAGGUGAAUCCGCUGGUUGGUCUAUGAAAAUUCAUAUCAGUUGUUCAACCUUUUAAAUUCUGUAACGUAUGUAGAUUAUAUAGCCUCUUUCCCUAAGCCUGCAUUUUUCUUUCAUUUCAUGGUGUCAACACUUCAGGAAAGCAAAAUUUCCUAAAAUGGAAUAUGGUGUGCAAGGACAAAGAGACUUGUUAGGCAUCUAAACUCUAGGGAAAUGUAAGACUGAUUUGAAACCAAAAUUUGAGCCAACUAAAUCUGCUGAAACACUGCUGCAAAAAGAAAACAAGCCCCAAAUAACUCUUUGAUCUUUUGUACCAAGCAGACUCGUGUCUGAAUAGUUUCAGAAAAAUAAGCUGUAUAUUUCUUGAAAUAUUUUUAUGCAUACCUCCAUCCCGGGAUAUAAACUGACAUUGUAACCUGGAUUGCAAGAUGUGUUUGUUCUUUCUGGAGCUGGAAUAUCCUUCUUCCUUCUUCAUAGCUACUACCAAAUGCUGUCCGAGAAAUCACAUCCCCUGUCAAAUUUUCAAGAUAGGGCCAAACAUCCAACUCACAUGAUCCCCCCACUGAAAGCAUUUUCCAUUUGGUCACCAUGUCGCUACAACUCAAAUGAAAUGCCGGCAACAUAUUCUAUAACAAAUUCAACCACAAAAUAAAUUAAUAAAGACCAAAACAGUCCAGUAUCCAGUUUCAAAUUCAAUAUACAGCCAUUUAUCACUGACCUGCGAAAUAACAAUUUAACUAGUUUAUAAAGCAUGUACUGCUUAAAGUCAUCAUAUGUUAGGAAGAGUCAUAUGGGUGAUGGGUGGAGGAUGAGGAAUAUUCAGUUUUACCAUGGAGGCACUGACUAAAGAAAUCAUAGAAAAAAAAUGUGCAUAUUCAUGAAAAGUUAGAUGUACUGGUAAUGUUAAUGAAAAGUUAGAUGUAUGGGUAAUAAGCAAGCAAGAUAAGAAAGUUGUUAAGAUCUUACUGUCAUAUGUAUCAAGUAUUUUAAACUAGGAACAGACAAUCAAGCAUAUUUUGAUCCUUAUGGUUCAAAUUACCUAUGGUUUACAUUGGUAAAUAAAACUUCUGAAAAUUUCUAUUGGAGACUGGAAAAAGACUUUAGAUGAGUAAGAAAAAAAAACAAGGAAAAGGUAGGACACAUUAGGUAUGUGAAAAUACUUCAUUAAACUGAUUGAAAUAUUUGGGAAUUUCGAUAAUUAUCUUUAUGGUAGCUGAAAAAGGUAUUUUAAAAUAUAUGAUAAUUUUUCAAAUACUAAUAUAAAAUUAUCUUUGGAAGACACAAUUUUAAUGCAGUUUUCAAGUGUUAAAUUUACUUUUUUAAAAAGACAACUUUAUAAAAUUCAGUUCUUUUAACUUUUAAAUGAUAACUUUCAAAUUAGUAUCUAGCAAUCUUUUAAAUGAUAAUUUAAAUGAUAACUUUUAAAUUAUAAAAUAAAUUUUCAACUACCAUAUUUUAGAAGGUUAUAUAUCAAUCUAAGAUACAUGAGAUGAGAAAUGGGUAUUCAUAACCUCCAAAUCUUAUAUAUAUUAUCACUUAAAUUUUUUUUUCCACUGCAUUCACAUGCUCAAUCUCUUUUCCAACAGUGAGAGGGCUAUGCAGAGAAGUUAAACUAGGGAAAAAAUCCAAGUCUGUAAUAUGUCACAAUUGAAGCAGUUUCAAUCAUGGAACUGUUUGUUCACUUUCAGAGUUUGUGAAAAGAUUUAAAAAAAAUACAUGAAAAUAAGGUAAAAUAUUCUGGUUUGGAAGCUGGGCAUUGAAAAUUACCUUCAACUUUUCUAGAUGGAAAGCUGGGUUGAUGAUCUUUCUACGUUUAGCCCAUCGUUCGCCUUCCAAGGUCACCAGACCAGAAACCAGCAACUUGCCAAGUGGGUGUGGGGGUGGCUUUUGAAAGACAUUGGACUUUAACAAAACAUCCCUUAUUAGCUCAGGCUCCAUAAUGUUUACCAUUGGAUUUGGACCGAACCAUGCAAAGAAAUUUUUACGUGCACGUUUAUGCCAUUAUUGGAUAGUGUUAGCCUCAGAUUGCUUUUAGUUUGGACUUCACACAAAUUCAACUUUGGGUAUUAAAAUUCAGUUGAACCCAACUUGGACCAUGAAAACAAUGAAAACUUCAACCAUAGUUUCUAUGCUGAGUUAUUAUAAAUGGACUAAAUCAUUUUUUCAGAAUUGUCUCAAUGUCAAUUGAUAUUAAGGAAUGAACUCUAUUCAUUGUAGCCUUGAGAUUAAAUAAUGAAAUCAGAAGUUAUUCACAGCUCCCAGAAAUUAAACAAUUGAAAACUAAAAACAGUACUUUUCAAAGUGGAAGUAUAUUAAUUUCUUGAUAAAAGAAAUUGCAAUACAGUUAGCAAAGAUUAAGAACUACCACUGAAGUCUAAACCUUUGGUGUAAUUUAAGAAAGAGGAAAAUAAACAAAACAGAAAGGAAAAGAAAAAUAGUUAGGAAGAGAAGAGCAGAUAACAAACAACUGCUUUAGGGCAGUAUAAAAAAGUUGGCCAUAAUUUGUAGAGAUCAGCAAACUUUAAUACUAUGAUGAAAAGUAAUCAGUCAUAUCGGUACCGUAUUUCUUAAUGAAAUGACAAUGGAAGGGCAGGACACGCGGAGCAAUUUCAUCGGAGAGGCUGAUUGGUCUUGAAUAUGCUUCUUUUAACAUCAUGGACAUCUCUUUGAAGUCCCCAUGUAAAAGCCUAUAAGAAUUCCCAGCCAGGCCUUGCUCUCUAAGGCAUCUUUCUAACCUCUUUGGCCUCAACCACACCCAAUUCAGUAGCCUCCAUAAACAGCUUAUGAGCACAGUAAGGAAUCCAAAAGAAAUUGCAACUGAGCUAUGCUUCAUUUCCAGUUUGAGGGACUUCUAUCAGGAGACGUGUGUUAAAUCACUUCAGAGUGAGAGAAUGACUUUAUGCUGCCGAUGUGUAUAAAUUGGCCCCUCUUCUAUUCCCUCGUGCCGGCAAACAUAGAAGAUUUCGUCAAUGCCUAAUGGGGAGAAGAACGUCUAGUAUUUUAAAAUCUAUAAAUUAUCUAUUUUAAUUGUCUCUAUCAAUAUGGAUUUUAAACUUGUCAAUGAAUUAUUAAUUUAUUCUAUUUGAUACAUUUCAAAGUUUGUGCAAUCAUCACUGCUUAUUAAAAACUAUAUAUGCCAUGAAUGUAGAAGGCAAAAUUUGAGCAUACGGAAUAUGGAAUUCUAUUUGAUGGACCAGCUUUCACUUGUGAGUAGAUGGAGCAUGUGGAUGCUCACUUUCAGAGCCUCGAGGGACAGCUCGCAUCCCUCACAUCUUGGCAGAUGUCGCAGGGUGCUUCCAGCUCUACAACUCCAUCUGAUCUGGACUUUUUGAUACUUCAUGUUUUUUUUUUCGUUUUUUCGUUUUUUUUUUGUUUUUUGUUUUUUUUUUUUUUUGUUUUUUUGUGGAUAAGUUUAUUUUGUACACCUAACCAUCUUGGCUCAGUCUAUCAUAUAUUUUGUUUGUCUAGAUGUACUUUUAUUUUCUUAUCUCUUGUAUCCAGAACCUUUUUUACCAGAUAUGUCCAUGUGUUUGCUUUUCUUUUCUCCUUUUCGUAUGCUUACUGCUUUAUCAUGCUCUUUGUCAUUUUUUGCAACAAAAGGGGGAGAUGGAUUGUUGAUUUGAUUGAGUGUUUUGAUAUUCAUAUUUUUUUGACAUCUGUUUCAUGACUUGCAUCCCCUUACUCGUUUACCUGAUUUGAUAAAAUUGAUCAAUUAUCUUUCUUCCCACACACUACUUUACCUGGGUAUGUUGUUUAGUGUGUGCAAGUUAUAGGUACUAGGGUAUUGCUCAUUUUUUGGAUGUGGCUUCUAGUCCUUUGCACGUUAGAUGAUGAAUUGGUUUAGACAAGAGGUAUUGAGAGAUUUGUAAACUCCAUUUGAGAGUAUUGAGGGGUUUAUGCAAUUUGUAUUUUAUCACAAAAUUGCCAAAGGGAGAGAUUGUUCGUACAUUAGGUGAUGUAGUUUAAAAUUGUCAAUUUUGUUCUAUUCAUUUUGGUUUAGGAUCUUUCUAGAUUGUGUCUCACUCCCCAUUGAAGACUCAAGGUUAUUAAUUGAUCAACCAAGAUUACAUAGGUAAGUGUAAAAAGAUUUGGGAAAGGCAAGUUAGUGUUUGGUAUGACAUGGCAUGGAUUGAGUGGUUUGAAAUUGAGCAAAAUGAUUUUCUAACUGGGUUUAAAAAAUGCCUAAAGCGCUCAAGCACUCUAAGAGCAUUUGAGCCCUAGCAACAAAAUUCUCUAGAAUUUUGGAGAUUUGUCUUUCUAUUUUUAAAGGAUUUAUUUUAAGGAACUUUUUAGAAUUAGUCCACUAGGUUCCUAGGCUUAUAUAUACAUUGCCUAAAAAGGUUUUUGGUUUGAUGCUUUUGAGUUUAAAAACCUAGUUUGUCUUCCUUUUUCCAAAAUUCUAAAAGAAACAUUCAUAUUUACUUCUGCCUAGUUGAAAAGGAGAUUUGUAUCCCCCUCAAGUGCUGAAGUGAGAUCCUCUAUGAGCACAUGAGAUGUUGCAUUGUGGACGCAAAACAUAGUGUAGGUGUUAGGUAGUAAGUCUUAGUAGUAGCUUUCAUCAAGUAAAAUUGAGUACAUACCCCAUUAUAUAUGAUGGAGACUUCCUCUAAUGCAUAUCCUAGAAUCGAAAUCAAUUGAUACUAAAUUAACACCCAACCCAUAUUUCAAACAAAAUCUUGCAAUUUCACAUUUUGAGCACCAAUCCAUGAAAAUGGUGUUUUUGGGGAGCAAUUUCAAUUGAUUUAGGAGAGCAGAUUAGAUCUUACCCUUCCCCUCUUGAGACUUGAAACUUAGGAGUAACCUGUUUUCAGAUAGAUUCAAUAUCACUAAUUGAUUAAUUUCUAUGUACAAUAUGUUUUUCUAAAUUUUAAACUCAUUCAAAUUCCAUCCUUUUAAUUCUAUUAGAAUAACGUAAAUCAUAUGGAAGUUAGAUUCUAAAUCUCAAGUCUUCACAUCAUCAAGUAUCAACUAUAAGAACUCAAACUCAACACUUUAGUGGCUCUAAAGAGUCUAUUUUAGUGCAUUUGAGGUAUUUAAAAAUGACAUAAUGCUUGCUUUUUUUUUUUUUUUUGUUAUUAAUGCCUUAGCCAUUUGUUUUUUAUAUUUUUUGUGAGUAUUUUUAGAACUUUAAGGUAUUUUGAAAAUGAAGUAGACUUUGUGGAGGAUUCUCAAAGAAUAAAAUGCCUAAGUAGAGAGCAAAAACAAAUUUUGUACCUUUUAAGUACACAGGAGUCUAUUGUGCAUCUCUCAAGUGUGCCACCAAACUAGAUUGCACACUCCCUCUAGCAAUUUAAGUUGAGCACCUUCCCCAUGAUUCAAAGGUUGCAUACCCCCUCAACAAUUGAACCCAACAAGAGCACUCAAGUUGUGCAUGUCCGUAACAUCUUAAUUGCACUUUUCCCUACCACUACAAUAGCGUAUCCCUAAGGCCACUCACCAUGCACUGUCACACCCCAAAGCCCACUCCAAGGGCAUGAUGAUCUUUUCACACCUAGCUCAAGCCCAAGGGCUCAAAGUGGAAACGACACAAACAUUUGUAUUGUAACUGGAAAUUUACCAAUUACCAAAUUCCUGGAUCAAACUUUUUCAAUUAUGCUUGCAAAUAGGAGAUAUAACAUAUACUUAUUUUCAUAAAAACUUUUGAGUUCAAAAUGCUAAUACAUUCAAACUUUUCUACAAAACUUUCUCAUAUCCAUUUCAAAAAAAUUUCUCAUCAAACCAAAUCAAAUACAUUCAAAAUAUCUUUACUCUGGUUAUCGUAUGACAAAUGGUGCCCAAUUAGGUGGGACUUUGCAAUUGAGUAACUAGUUUCAAAUUUGUUCAAUUUAAGGUGAACAAAACCAAAUGUCAACAAUUAUAACUCAUUGACUAGGGUCAUAAGGUCAACCAUUAUAACCCAUUGACUAAGGUCAUAUAACAUCAACUAUUAUAACCCGUUGACUAAGGCCAAAAAUGUCAACUAUUAUGACCCGUUGACUAAGGCCAUAUAAUCCAGAGUCAAAUACUUUAUUUCAUUAAUUCAAACUUGCAAAACAAAACAUCAUAUCUCCUCAAUUUUUCAUUUUUCAUAAACAAAGAAAAUACUCAAAUAUACUUUCAAUAAAAAACAUAUAUUUGAUCCACGCUUAAAGAUAAAAAUAAUAUUUUUACAGAUUUCAAAAUACAAUAUAAAAAGAAAAUUAUUUUUUUUUACAAAAAUCUGCAUUAAUUUCAUUUACCUUGAAGAAGCACUCAAAAUCUUAAAGUAUUUAGCUUUGAAGAAUUUCCUCCUCACCUAACUUAAUAUCAUACACAAUAUUGAUUAUUGAUUAUUUAUCUAAAUAUAUAAAUUUGACAAUCCUAAAAAUAUUUUAUUUAGUAUUAGGGAUCCUAAUUAAUUUCUCAUGUUAAUAUUAUUACCAUCCAAUAUUAUUUUCAACUUCCUAAACAAUAAUAUAUUUCUCUUUUCUAACUUAUCUAAAUUAAAUCUUUUAAGAAUAUUUGUUUGCAUUAAAAAUUAUUACUAUUAUUUAAAUCUCCUACUAAAACUUAACAAAUACCCCAUGCAAUUCUUUUUUUUUUUCCCAGUAACUCCACACCAACUCCAUUCAUUAUUAUUAUUUCUUUUAUUAUUAUUAUUAUUAUUAUUAUUAUUAUUAUUAUUAUUAUUAUUAAUUUCAAUACCUAACAACACCUUAACCUAUUUCUCUUCCAAGCCAUCAAUGUCCUUUUCUUCCUCAUCGUUUACCAAAAUACUAUUUACUUCCUUUCCUAGGUCAACGUGCAUUAUUAUUAUUAUUAUUAUUAUUAAUUUCAAUACCCAACAACACCUUAACCUAUUUCUCUUCCAAGCCAUCAACAUCCUUUUCUUCCUCAUCGUUUACCAAAAUACUAUUUACUUCCCUUCCUAGGUCAACGUGCAUUAUUAUUAUUAAUUUCAAUACCCAACAACACCUUAACCUAUUUCUCUUCCAAGCCAUCAACGUCUUUUUCUUCCUCAUCAUUUACCAAAAUACUAUUUACUUCCUUUCCUAGGUCAACGUGCUGACCAUUUCUUAGUUCACUACUACAAAAUAAUUUAUGGUGUCACUAUUUAUGGUGCCACUUUUAAAAUAAUGACACCAUAGGGUUUAUAACUAAUAAAGGUGACACAUUAGAUAAAAAAUCUUCAAUUGAGGUGGUUAGAUGAUAUUAGUUUUAUAUUUAUAGUGUCAUUUUUUGGGAAGUGACAUCAUAUAAAAUAAAUUUUUUUAAGUAUUAUAACUUAAUGAGCCCACUUGAGCUCACUUUUAGAAUUAAUAAUGAGAGACCUAGGAGUUUUAAAUAUGAAAAGACCGUUUUACCCUUAUUAAAUUACUUAAUUAAUUAUUAAUUUCUAAAUUAUGAUUUUACCCCUAAAUUGGGUUUAGGGCAUUACAUGCACACUGUUCCCACUCUUGCAAAGGUUGCGCACUUGAGAAAACUCCUUCCAAUGAUUUUACACUCACCAAAGUAAUGCAAGCAUCUAAGCCUUAAGUCAUCAUCUAUACUAUCAAUUCUCCCAUACUGAUUGCAUUGAAAGCCAAGUGCAACCACCAACUCCAAGCUGACAAGUCAAGUUCAAGAAAGAUGGCUAGGUUACUACAUUGACACAUGAUCUGAUCCCCAACAUGGGUAAGAGGCAGUUCUAGGAGAAUAGUUUGAGCAAUAAGAAUGGAUUACCUAAAGGGAAACCCAUCUAUAAAUAGAGGAUUGUCUGGGGGCGCGUGCACACACACACAUAUAAAUAUGUAUGUAUGUAUGGGGAGAAGAAAAGAAAAAAAAAAAAGGAAUGUUGAAGAGCUUGAAUCUUUAAUGGAGAUGAUAUUAACCUUUUUAGGAUUUAGUUAGGAAUUGAUUUUGGUAAUUAAAAUGACAAUUAAUUAUUUGGAUAGGAUUUGUUAGGUAGUUUCCUAUUUCUUUCUAUAUAUUUUCCUUAUUUUUGUAGGUUUCCUACAGAUAUAUAAAUAGAUGACAUUUUCUCUUUUUUCUCUAUGAAUGAAUAUAUGACUAGAUGAUUCGUCCCCAUUGCAGUCAUUCCAUUUGAUUCCGGCUCAGACGGGUGUUAUCAACAAAAUUUAUAAAACCUAAAUCACCUCACACUAGGGUAGCAUAGCUAACAUAGUAUAGUGGCUCUAGGAUCGUCCACACGGAUGGGUUUUCAUCGUAUAGUUGACUUAAAUGAAGGAAAUAAAAUGAUGCUUUUUCUUAUGAAAGUUAGCUUGUAAAGAAAAUUGGAAUUAUGGUUGCAAAGAUUGAUUUUAAGUUAAGCAAAAACAAUAAGUGAAAUUAACUACAAAAAAAAGGGUCUCUUGGAGCUUCAAGUCACUAGGAUCGAGUUUCUUAGGCAAAGGUGGAGAUUCCAGAUCUUCUCCUCGCGUUGGGGAUAAUAACAUAAAGGAUGGUUAUCUUCCGAACCGGUUUUAUAUUUAGCAAUUAAGAUUUGAUCCAAAAGUUUUAUGAGAAAUGGUAAUUGUUUCCCAUUAAUGGCUUCAAACCAAUGUUUUAAAAACUGGACCGGACCGGCCGGUCCAACCGGUUCAACCGUCGACCGGUCACAAUUUCGGUCCGAUCUGCUUAUUGAACCGUUUAAGAUUUAAACCGGCCACGAACCGCCGAAACCGGCGGUUGGACCGGUGACUCGGUCGAACCGGAUGGUUCUAAUCGAACCGAACGGUUCAAUUUGAACCUCCAUUUUAAAGGCUCCCUUGCAUAAAAAAGUUUUGGCAAAUGCCCAUUCUGGGCCUUGUCUCAUCAAGACAAAGCCCAAACCCCACUCAACCAUAUUGUGGGCCUAGUCUUGAGCCCACCCAAUGAGGCAAUGCAUUGGCCUUCAAUGUGGAUAGAAUUUAUAGGCACCCUUGGCAUCCUCAUUUCUCUUUGAAUCCGAUGUGGGAUUCCUAACCAACCAAAUGAAUGAAAAAAAUAAUAACAAGUCCCCCCAGCCAAGAGGAAUUGAACCUUGGACCCCAGAUUCGGGGGGCAUCCAAGGCACCACUCGGCUACACAGCUUUUGUUAGUUAAUAUGCUAAACAAAAUAAUAUAUAUUAGAUUUAAAUUUUUUUUUGUAAUGUUAAAUAAAAAUAAUAUAAUAUUUUUAAAAAUGAUAAAAUUAGUUUAAAUUUUCAUUUUUAAUAUAUUCAUAUUUAAAUAUUUUACAUAUUUCAUUUAACAAAAUUAAAAAUAUUAAUAUGAUUUAAUUUGAUAAUAUUAUUGAUUUUUAAUUUAUUCAUAUAUAUUUUAAAAUUUUUAUAAUUAUUUUUAAUUUUAAUAAUAUAUAAAUUAUAUAUUUAUGACGUCACUGGUUCAAUAGCGGUUCGACCGCCGGUCCGACCAGUGAACCGUGAACCGGUAACUUUUCCGGUUUGAUCACCGGUCCAGUUUUGAAAACAUUGCUUCAAACACUAAAGACUUUCACCUUGAACCACCUUCCAAUGGCUCGUAAAUGAUAACUAAUAGACAUCCAUGGAUCUAGCAAUAAGCAUCCAUGGAAUUCGAAAAGCUUAGCAAGUAUUGGCCAUUCAAGGUGCUUUUAAGGGGUUUAAAACUAAACCUUGAAAUAAAAACCAUUGAUGGUUAAUAACUACUGUCAUUUAAAGCUAGGAUAACUUUCACCUUUGCAUUCAGGUCCUUCACCUAACUUCCAUCAAUCCGAGAAACGUAAAACCUAGCCACUCAUCCCCUAAGAAAUCAUCCUCAGAGGUUGUUUGGCUAGCAAGAAAAGUGAAAACAAAAUGAGAAGGAAAGGCAGAGCAAAAGCUCUAUAUAUUUCUUAGUAUGAGAAUUUACAAGUGUUUUAUGAAAAACAUACAUAAUUUUUCAUCCCUCUGUCUCUCUCCUUAUAUAUAAACUACCUAAAAGAUAUAUAAAAGAAAAUAUCUAGGUUGGUUACAAGGAGAAACUAGGAAAUUACACAAAAUAUCUGAAGAUAAAAAUCUAACGGAGUCAGUGCAUAGGAAGAUUUCGCAUACCAUGCGAAAUUUGGCAUGGUGUGCGAAAUCCUUUGGCUGCCUCAAGUGGUUUCGCAUGGUGUGCGAAAUUUUGCACAGCCAUGCGAAACUGCUUGUUGUUGGAUUUCUUCCUUUGGUUUUCUUCCUUGCAUCUCUGAUUGGCUUGGCAAAGGGCUAUGAAGUGCUCCAAAGCUUGGCUUCUUCAUGUAUUUGAUUUAUCUUGCAUUGCCAUGGAUUUCACCAUAUUCUCCCUUAUUCUUGGCUUGUUUCAAUGAUAAAAAAGCUACCAAAAACAUCAAAACUUGCCAAAAACUGAUUAGUAACCCUUGCUAGGUUCAUUAAUGUGCCAAUUGAGUUAAAAGGUAUUAACUACUACUCAAAAAUGUUUAAAACAGUUAGUUUCAAACUAAAAAAGAGUACUUUUUGAGUAGUAAUCACUCCCCCCAACCGACAUAUUGCUAGUUCCUUAGCAAUAAAGGAGAGAUAAAGAAGAAUAGACAGUAAAAUAAUUUACAACAUCAUGCUAAUCACUCCAAAAAAAUUUCAAGUGGCAUGAUGCAGAUUAUACUCUCUCACUGGAAUAUCAAAGAGGCAAAACCCAACCUUCAACAAGAGUCAUCAAAUCUCCUGCCUAAUUACAAUUUAUAAUGAGUAGGAAUUAUGAAAAUUUAAGCAUUAAAAGAAUUUCCACUCCCAGAGGUCUAAUCCUUAUUUUUCUACAAAAAUCCCAGUGUGUUAAGCUUAUUAGUUUGCAAUUAUAGUAUGUCGAACUAUUCUCUCCCCCAACCUAGUUCUUCCUCAAACUUUAGCAAACUGACCAACCUCCAAUAGGCUAAGAACGCACAUAUUUUAUUUCACAAUAUUUUUUCAUUGUAGGAGUGCAAUGCUAAAGGUAUUGUUUCCUAAAGUGUCCAUGUAACGGGGAUCCAUCGAUGACUCCCAACCAAUCAAAGUUUAGGGCAUCAAGAUUUAAGGAUCUUUUGACCACUAAACUCCUCAGAUUUUUUCCCGGACUUUUGAGAUUGAAAUUCAAUACCCAAGCACCUACAAUAUGUUAAACUCCACCUAUUCACCCUUGUAACGAGCAUUGAGGUCAGUGACUCCCAACCAAUCAAGGCUUAGGGCACCGGGUUUUAAAGACUUUCGCCGUAUACCCCUCAGACCUUGCUCGGGUUUUAAGGCAAGUGAAACACUUUGUUAUUUCUUUUUUUUUUAAAGGCUCAUUGUCCUUUUAUAAGGUGUCCCAACACUAUUAAAACGAGGUCAAAGGUACCAAGUCGAAAUUUUCCUAAGUUCAGGGGGUGAGAUAGUUUUUCAUCUUAUAACCGGAACCUAAUGUGAACAAUGUGUGGUAAGAUUAAAGUGCAAGAAAUAAGAUUGAAUUCCAUAGGAGUUUCAAUACUUCAUCAACUUCAAUAAGCAUAAUACAAACUCUAAGAUUCAAGUAAAAAUGCAAGAACUCAUUUCCUCCCAUUUCAUUUUGAGAAUUUUUCCUUAAUAACCAUGGAAAGUAAAGUGAAAACUUUUAAAAUUAAGCCAAAAAGUAACUAGAUUAACAAAUUAACCUAGCAUUAUUAACAAAACUUCCUUCCUCAACUCUCCCCCCCAACCGAGAUCAACAUUGUCCUCAAUGUGUCAAGAGCAAUUGAAAAUAAAGGGAGGAAGUGGUACCUCCUGUAUCAAAUGGAGCCUGAGUCGUAUAGGAGAAACCACAUGAGUCAAAAAACAAAAGGGUAAUGAGUAGAGGAAAUAGAAAAAUGCUAAGUAUAAUAAAAAACAUGAUGAUCUAUAUAUUAAUAUGAGAAAGUACAAUUUGAGAUAUGAUUCGGUAAUACAUCCAAUCCCAGUUUAUAAAGCAUCAAAACAAGGACAAAUCUCCACUAAUAUAAUAUAUAAAUACAAUAAGAUAAAGAGAUGUCCUAUGAUCAAGUAGUGGGAGCCUCGGGUGGAGAUGAUGCCUGCUCAGGCGUAGUUGUGACUACGGGAGGUUCAUUCUUAGGUGGUGGAAUCCGGACCUCUGCUGGUGUAGUGUCGUCAGUUGGAGCUAUAGGCGCUGAGGAUGCGGGAAGGUCAGGCUGAGGCGGAGGCAGGAGUCCCAUGUGCUGCUGAAUCUGGUGGAGAAUAACAGUCUGUUGGUCUUGAUGGGCACGUAUCUCAGCCAUCUGCUAGAAGAUAGCAAAAUGGGUGGUGGUGAGUGUAUGAAAGGUAUGCACCAGGGCGCGAAACUCCGAAGCCGAUAUGGUGAUCGAAGGCUCGGAUGUAGUCGGCACGACUGGUGGAACAGUAGGAGUUGUAGGUGGAGCAGUAGAAGUAGCCUUAGGUGUGGGCACUAGUGGUGUCGUCUCUGUUGAGAGCUCGCCCUGCUCUAGCCGUGGGUGCACUGGUGGUGCUACCAUGGGAGGGACUCCUGGCGGUACAGAAUAGCCUACCAACUGAUUCCAUUUGUCAAGAGUGGAUCGUUCUCGACAAAGGCGGGGGCGCUCAAGCCGAGGCUCAGUAGGAAAGCCCAAAUACUCUAGGAUCUGGCACAGCAACCUCGGGAAUAGUAGUGGAAUGGUGUCGACCCUUUGAAGCUUCUUCCUAUGGACCUUCUCCUCAAAGUGGAUGAGAGAGGCCAUAAUCAAGUGGUGUGGGCCAAAGUAGAAGCCCUCGGAUAUAUGGAACAAUGCAUCCAAAAUAACUCAUCUCCUCUAUACUGAAUGUUGUAAUGGAAAGAGGUUGGAGCGCAACACCACGUCUAAGAGGAGCAUCCCAAGCAGAAGCUCCUUUCGUAGAAGGACCGAAUCAGUAGAGGUCCCCUUGGAUAAUAUGUGGACCAUGUCCCUGUGAGAUACGAGGGACUACUGGCGGAAAACAGAACGAUCCUCUGGCUCGAACGAAAUAUGUAGAGCCUCUGCAAUCUGUCUGGCCUUGAGUACACCAUAGACUAGUAAAAGUCUAGUGCUACUCUGGGAUAAAAAAACUCAUGUGGAGUCAUGAGGUGCUCAAGGUGAUACCUUUGGAGUAAGGCAUAGGAGUCUUGAAGCUCAAGCUGCUGUCGCAUGACCUUCUGAUCAAAAUAUAGCUCCGAGUGGAAGGGUCGCGCUUUACAAUCUGAGUUGCCCUCAAUGGGCAGUGUUGUGACCAUCGGAUGUCUGAUAAUCGACUUUGGUGACAUGUCAGAAGGUAACUCAGAAUCUGCUGGAGGCUCAGAAGCUUUGGAUGACUCUCUCGGGCUUGAAGUCCUGGCCUUCUUGGCUGGAAGGAGCCGUACUGAACUCUCGGGGCAUGAAGUAGUCGCCCCUAGGGUAGUAGGUGGUCUCCUCAUCUCGUACCUAUGCUGAGGAGCAAGUGAGGAAGGUCCAGUGACUUCUCCACCUUCGGAAGGUGGAAUCCGUGGGGCCUCCGCGGCCUAAGAUGGGGAAUCGCUAGGUACCUGAGCCGAGGAGGCUCUCUGCCUUGUAGUACGUCUUGGUGAAGGGGUGGGAAGGGCUCCUCGGGUUUGUGCCAUGUUAGAAAUGAAAGGCGAGCCUCGAGUAUGUUCUCUGAGGGGGCGCGGAGUGCGUUUCUUCAAAGUGAGAUGCGCGCGAGGCUAGGAAUCGAAUGGAUAGGGGUGAGGUCGCAAGGUGGCAGAGGAAAUUCGCAAUGAUAGGAGUGCUUGUGAAAUGAGGAACUGAAGAAGCUAGGGGUCGGGGGUUUAAAAAGAGAUAGGCAGGUGUCGUUUGGUUUUUGCAGGCAUCUUUUGGUUUUUGCAUAUUGUACGAAAUGGCUUUGGGGCUACGAAAUGGUUUCCCAGACCCCUUAGGGUUUCACACAAUGUGUGAAAUGGGUUUGAAUGUGCGAAAUUUUUUGCAUGGUCUGCGAAAAUUUUGCACAGUGAUCGAAAUGAUUUCGCAAGGAUUGGCUUAUUUUCCCUGGGUGUGCGAAUUUGGUUCGCAGGGUGUGCGAAAUUUUGCACCCCAUGCGAAAUGAGUGAUUGAUUUCGCAUGCCCUGUGAAAAUUUUGCAAGGUGUGCGAAUUGUUUUGAUUACUCUGUUUGAAAUCCUCCUGCAGUCGAUCAUAAAAAAAAUCUAAGUUAAGUCAAACCAAAAUAAAAUUAAAACGAGAAAUCAAAAUAAAAACAAGUAAUAAUACAGGAAAACUCUUAAAUUAGAAAUAAAAUAAAAAGAUAUGGACUCGAUUAGUAUUUAAAAAGACUAAGUCCAUCAAAAAGUUGGUCUUGUCAAGCUUGAUGUGGAUCAAGGAUGAUGAAUUCCUACUUAUCGUGAGAAAAAGGCUCCACAAAGGGCUUGAGACGGUGGCCAUUCACUUUGAAGCUCCUUGUGCUGUUGGAGUUGAGUAGUUCCACUACUCCAUUUGAAUGCACUUGGUGAAUGGUAAAAGACCCUAUCCACCUUGAUUUCAGCUUGCCCGAAAAGAUGUGGAGCUUAGAGUCAUAGAGCAAGACUCUUUGUCCCUUUCAAAAAUCCUUACGGGAAAUCAACUGAUCAUGCCACCUCUUCAAUUUCUCUUUUGCAAUUUUUGAAUUGAUGUAGGCAUCAUUUCUCAAUUCCUCCAUCUCAUUAAGGUUUAAGAACCUCUUUAACCUAGCUCUGCUCAGAUCCAUAUUGAGUUUCUUGAUUACCCACCAAGUUUUGUAUUCCAAUUCCACAGGGAGAUAGCAUGCUUUGCCAUAGACUAGGCAAUAAGGAGACAUCCCGAGAAUGGUCUUGUAAGCUGUUCGAUAUGCCCAUACUGAAUCAAGGAGCUUAAUUGACCAAUCUUUUCUAUUUGUGUUCACCACCUUCAUCAAUAUGUUUUUAAUCUUCCUGUUUGCUAAUUACUCAACUUGCCCACUAAUUUGAGGGUGGUAAGGUGUAGCUACCUUAUGCUUCACCCCAUACUUGGCUAGGAGAGUUUCAAAAGGCUUGUUGCAAAAAUGAGUACCUCCAUCACUAAUUAUUGCUUUGGACACCCCAAAUCUUGAGAAGAUGUUCUCCUUGAGAAACUUGAGAACCACUCUAUGGUCAUUGUGCUUACAUGGGACUACCUUAACCCACUUAGAAACAUAAUCUACUCCCACCAAGAUGUAAGAGUAGCCAAAAUACAUAGGAAAUGGUCCCAUGAAAUCAAUGCCCCAAACGUAAAAAAGAUCAACUAUCAAAAUGGGGUUCAAAGGCAUCAUGUUCUUGUGUGUCAACUUCCCAAGCCUCUGACAUUGAUCACAACUCUUGAACAUGGUGUGGGCAUCUUUGAAAAGUGAUGACCAACAGAAGCCCGAUUGCAACACCCUCAUGGCUGCCUUAUGAGAAGCAAAGUGGCCUCCACAUGCAUUUUCAUGGCAAUGACCGAGGAUCCCCUUUUGCUCUUCUUUAGAAAUGCACUUCCUUAUUAUCUGAUCCGCACAAUACUUGAAUAGAAAUGGAUCUUCCCAAUAGUAGGCCUAAAUUUUUGCAAAGAAGUGCUUCUUAUUUUGUGCUUUCCACUCACUUGGAAUUUCUCCUGUGACUAGGUAGUUAGCAAUGUGAGCGUACCAAGGGGCAACUUCCCCCAACAUAAGAGACUCGUCUGGAAAAUCGUCAUUAAUGGGCAUUCCAUGGGAAUUAUGUGCGAUAGCUAGCCUUGAAAGGUGGUCUGCUACCACAUUCUCCACUCAUUUCUUAUCUUUGAUAUGGAGAUUGAACUCUUGAAGCAAGAGAAUCCAUCUAAUCAGCCUUGCUUUAGCAUCUUGCUUAGUCAAAAGAUACUUCAAAGCAAAGUGAUCAGUGAAAACCACAAUGAAAGACCCCACCAAGUAAGCACAAAACUUAUCCAAGGAAAAAACUACAGUUAACAAUUCUUUCUUGGUAGUUGUGUAGUUUCUUUGCACCUCAUUCAACGUCUUGCUCGUGUAGUAGAUCACAUAGGGUUUUCCAUCUUCUCUUUGCCCAAGAAUAGCUUCUAUAAAAAAGUCACUGGCAUCACACAUUACCUUAAAGGGUAGUUGCCAGUUAGAAGCCCUCACUAUUGGUGCAGUUGUCAAAAAUAGCUUCAAUACUUCAAAACUCUUUUGGCAUCUAUCAUCCCAUAUGAAUUUAGCAUCUUUGACCAAUAGUUCACAAAGAGGCCUUGCAAGCUUAGAGAAAUCCUUGAUAAACCUCCUAUAGAACCUGGCAUGGCCAAGGAUUUGCCUUACUCCUUUGACAUUUGUUGGGGAUGGCUACUUAACAAUGAGUUCAACCUUUGCUUUGUCAACUUCAAUGCCUUUCUUGGAGAUGAUAUGUCCAAGGACAAUCCCUUGGUGUACCAUGAAAUGGCACUUCUCCCAUUUAAGCACUAAGUCUUUCUCAAUGCAUCGGUUCAGAACAACUUCUAAGUUGAUCAAGCAUUCAUCAAAUGUACUUCCAUAUAUGGUGAUAUCAUCCAUAAAGACUUCCAUAAUACCCUCCACCAUAUCAUUGAAAAUGCUUAACAUGCAUCUUUGGAAAGUUACGGGUGCAUUGCAUAAGUUGAAAGGCAUUCUCUUAUAUGCAUAGGUUUCAAAUGGGCACAUGAAAGUGGUAUUUUCUUAGUCUUCAACAUCAAUUUCUAUCUGAAAGUACCCGGAGUAGCCAUCCAAGAAACAAUAGAAAGGAUGCCUAGAGACCCUCUCAAGAACCUGAUCAAUAAAGGGCAACAGGAAAUGGUCUUUCCUUGUCACCGCAUUCAACCUUCUGUAAUCGAUACACACCCUCCAACCUGUAGUGAGGCAUGUAGAGACCUCUUCUCCCUUAUCAUUUUUCACCACCGUGAUCACAGACUUCUUUGGCAUAACUUGACUAGGACUCACCCAUGGGCUAUCUGAUAUGGGGUAAAUAAUACCGGCCUGAAGUAGCUUAAGAACUUCAGCUCGCACCACCUCUUGCAUGUGAGGGUUCAACCUUCUCUGAGGUUGAUGAACUGGCUUAGCUUCAUCCUCCAUGUAAAUGUGAUGAGUGUAGACUAAAGGGCUGAUCCCUUUCAAAUAAGAAAUUUGCCACCCUAUUGCCUUCUUACAUCUUCUAAGGACUUCAAGUAGACAAUCCUCCUGAUGAAUGGUAAGAGUUGAAGAUAUAACAAUAGGGCACUGCUUGUCUUCUUCCAAGUAUGCAUACUUCAACUCUAUGGGUAGUGGCUUAAUAAUAAGCUUUGGGGGUUCCUCCUUAACAGGUCUUUGCGUCUCCUCCUCAUUGAAUAAGGGUAGAAUUUCUUCUCUCCUCCUCCAUGGGAGCAGGGUAGCAAGCAAAUCUGAGGGUUCAAGUAACCCUUCAUCAAGAUCCCCAAAACUCUCAAUCAAAUCUUCUUGCAUUCUUUAAUCACAAUCCUCCUCCACUAAAGUGUCAAUCAUGCACACUUCCUCUAGGCCUUCUUCUUCUUCCGAAUGGAUAUGGUUCUUGUACAAAUGGAAGAUGUUGAGCUCCAAUGUCAUGUUGCUAAAUGUGAGUUGCAUGAAUCCAUUCCUACAAUUGAUGAUUGCAUUUGAUGUAGGUAGGAAUGGUCUUCCAAGUAUGAUAAGAACAUAAUUAGUUCCUAUGACAACUGGAUCCGUAUCAAGAACAACAAAAUCCACUGGAUAGUAGAAUUUGUCAACUUGAACCAAGAUAUCUUCGAUCAUCCUUCUUGGAAUCUUCAGUGAUCUAUCUACCAGAGAUACAGUGAUGGAUGUUGGCUUCAACUCUUUAAGUCCCAACUGCUUGUAGACACAGUAAGGUAGCAAAUUCACACUUGCUCCCAAGUCCAACAAAGCUUUCUCUACACAAGUCCCUCCAAUACUCAAUGAGAUGGUAGGGCAGCCCGGAUAUUUGUACUUCACUGGAGAUUUGCAUUGUAUUAUGGCACUCACUUGCUUAGUCAAGAAGGCUUUCUUGUUCACAUUCAACCCUCUCUUUACAGUGACAAGUCCUUCAAGAAUUUUGCAUAUGUCGGCACUUGUUUGAUCAUGUCUAGGAAAGGGAUAUUGACCUUCACUUGCCUUAACACUUCAAAAAUUUCUGAUGCAUUAUUAGUUCCCUUUUGCCAUGCAAAGCUUAGGGCAAAGGUGGAGGCAUGUGUUUCUUCAUCAUAUCUUCCUUGAUCACAUUCCUAUCGGGUUCUUCAUCCACACUAGACUUAUGGUCAUCUUUCUUUGUACUUUUCUUUUUUCUCUUUCCUUUCAUUUCCUCUCUUUUUUCUUUUUAUGCUACACUCUCUUCAUCAUGCUUUGGCUUGGAUGUGGGUUGAUUAACCUCUUUGAUUCGUGCCCAAUUGGUGUCUCAGCUGAUUUGUGUCCAGCUGGUGCUCCUUGAUUGAGGGAGUAAUCAACAAAAUUUAUAACCUAUAACACCAUAUACUAGGGUAGCAAAGAAAAAGCUACUAUAGUAUAGUGGCUCUAGGAUCGUCCACUGGGAAAGAUUAACAAGCUCUCAAUGAUACCAAUUCCAAGUGAAUUGGCCUUGUUUCAUUUCAAGGUUAGCUUAAGAAGUAAAACACAAACUUUAAUUGGUAAAGGUUUAGACUUAAACUAACUAACAUAACAGAAGUUUGGAAUAAUUUAGGAAGAAAAGCAUUCCCUGGAGAGUUCAGUUCACUGGGGUGGUUCCUCAUGCAAAAGACAUAGCUCCGGUCAGAUGGUUCAUUUCCUCGUGUUAGAGAUUCAACACAUAGUCAAUUCUCUAACCGGUGUUGUACAGAGACUCCUUCAAUUAGAUUUCACUUUAAUUCUCUCACUGAUGCAACUUGCAAUGGUUUAAGCCUCUCACUAAGCCUUAACCAUUCAAGGUGAUCUUUAACCUUGGAUUACCCGUCAAAAGCUCGCAAGAGAUAACUAAUGGAUGUCUCCUUGGAUUCCAAAAGCUUAUCAAGUGUUGGCUAUUCUAGAAAAUCCUACCUUGAAGUCACCUCCCAGAGGCUCGCAAGGGGUAAACUAGUGCAUUUCCAUGGUUGGAAAUCACUUGCCUUACCAAGUGUUAGCCCAGGUGACUCUAAGGUGUUUUAAGUUAACUAAAAACAUAGAAAUCAUUAAAGGAUUUCACUUCCUCUUCAUUAAUAGCUAAAACCACAGAGCUUUGCAUUCUUGCACUUGGAACCUUCCCCGGCAACCUUAGCUCCAAGGAACUACAGGUUUAGUUACUCAUUCUCUGGGGAAAACUCCUCAGAGAGUUCAUAACUUAGUAAGAAAAUGAAAAUACAAAGUGAGAAGGUAAGGUAGUAGAAAGAAAAUAAACUUACUUUCUUACCCAAAAUUUUACAGAAGGAACUCCUCCCUGAGAACAGGCUCCCGAGAGGUAUAUAUAUGUACAUAAUAUAAAACUAAUUAUUACAUAGAUAUUUAGUCUUUUUACUAACUUAAAAGCUAAGGAAUCAUGUAAUUGGUGGUUUACAAGGAGUAUUUUGGGAUUUAGACAACAAAAAUCUAAUGGAAAAUAUCUCCCAAUGUCGGUAGAAAAUAUCGGGAGGCUUCAGGAACCAUUUUGCAGGAGAAAAAUGGUGUCUGCGAGAUUUCGCAGACACUCAAGAGGGUUGCGAAAUAAUUUCGCAAUACCAAGCUAUCUUCACAGGGCUACGAAGAUGGCUUCCACCUUGAGGCUCCCAGCUUCCUUCUCGCGGCAUAAAUCGGGCAUCGUCAGAAGGAGAAACAUUACACUGUUCAAAAAGGCUGCGAAAUCACUUCGCAACAAAAGGGUGAUUUUGCAACACUUUGCAAAAUGCUUCCUUCAACUCGGAGUGAUUGGCUUGUAAUGGCUACAACUUCUUCGUUUCAACUCCGAAUUGCACACCGUUUGAAGCAUUGUAUUUUUGACUUCCUGAGCUUUGAAAUGGUAUAUAGCAUGCAUCAUUUGGACUUCAGAAAGUGCUCCAAAAGUGGCUUCUACGACUGUCAUCAAGAAUAUGCUUUAUGGCAGAUUCUCUUUGCUUUUUCUCCUUGCAAUCCGGAUUUACUCUUGGCAAAUGACUUCUAAGCUUUGCCCAAGAUUCCUCAUAGCUCUCCUCAGUCUGGACUUGCUUUGGUAAUCAAAAUACUAACAAAAACAUCAAAACUUACACAAAGUGAUCAAAAUUGCUUUCAAGGGUCCUUAACAUGCCAAUUGAGUUAAAAGGCCAAAACUACUACUCAAAAGUGUUUAAAAGGAUUAAUUAUAAGCUAUCAAAUAGCACUUUUUGAGUAGUAAUCACUCCCACCAACCGACAUAUUGCUAGUCCCUUAGCAAUAUAGGAGAGAAAAAUUGAAAAUAAAAAGCAGACUAAUCUAAAAUUUACAACAUCAUGCUGAAAGAAAGUUAUUCUCAAGUGGCAUGAUGAUCUAAUUCUCACAUGAAGCAUUAAAGAAAUACAAACCCAAAUCUCAACAAGAGUCAUAACAAACUAUGCUAAACACUGUCAAUCAAGGGAGUGCAUUAUGCAAACUGAAGUUUUAAAAUCAUUUCCACUUUCUAAGAACCAAACUUUAAUCUUCCACAAAAAUCUAUGUGUAUUGGUUCCUUAGCUUCCGAGAAUAAUAUGUUAAACUAAUCUCUCCCCCCAACCUAUCUCUUUUCAACACUUAGCAAACUGACCAAAAUCAAUAAGAAAAGAACACACCUUCUCUUUUUUUUUUUUUUUUUUUUUUUUUUUUUUUUUUUUAAGGUAGCUUUAUGGGGUACUCUUUCUGACUUGUCCAUGUAAUGGGGGUCCAUCAAUGACUCCCAACCAAUUAAGGUUUAGGGCACCAAGCUUUAAGGAUCUUUCAACCACUAACUCCUCGGAUUUUUCCCCGGACUUUUAAGAAUGAAUUUCUAAUACCCAAGCAUCUACCAUAUGCUAACUCUACCUAUUCACCCUUGUAACGAGCAUUGAGGUCGAUGACUCCUAACCAAUUAAGGCUUAGGGCACCAGGCUUUAAAGGCUUUCACCAUAUACCCCUCAGACCUUGCUCGGGUUUCAAGGCAAGCAAACAACUUUCUUUAUUUCAAAGGCUCAUUAGCCUUUUGCAGGGUGUUUCAAUUUUAUCAAAUGAGGUCAAAUGUACCAAGUCCCAAAAUUAUCCUAAGUCAAGAGGGAAAUAGCUUUUCAUCUUAUAAUCGGAAUCUAAUGUGCACAGUGUGUGAAUAGCUUAAAAUGGAAGAACUAAAUUCAAUUUCACUAGAAGCUUCAACAAUUGAACCACUUUAGUGAGCAUAAUCCAUACUCUAAGUUAAGUGAAAAACAACAGUUCAAUUUCUCUUGGUUUAAUUUGAAAAUUUUUCCUCAAAAUUCAUGGAGAAUAGAGUAACAAGAGUAAAAAGUAAAAACUACAACUAAUUAACCAAUAUAAUUGUAUUAUAAAAAAGAUUUAGCAUACUUCCUUCCUCAUUCCCCCCAACCGAACUGAGCAUUGUCCUCAAUGUGAUAUGAGUGACUGUAUUUAAAGAGAGGAAGUGGUACCUCCUUGCUGAUAUCAAAUUCGAAUAUUGAUUGGGGAAAACCACAUGUUUCAAAAAGAAUAGAAUAUGUGAGAAAAGGAAAUAAGAAUAACUUAAUGCUAACUGUUAACAAGAAAUAUUCAACUUGUAUUACUUUCAAUUCAUUCGAGUACAAUAUAAAAGACAAGUAACGCAAGUAAUCCCAAAUAUAGUACCAAAAUACUGGGAUUUCUUUUCAACUAAAAAAAAACAAAUACAUAAAAAUAUUAGAUAUAUAUAAUAGUUUGAUGAGUGGGGUGGUGGUGCUAGGCAGAUGGGUCUGCCUUUUCAGUAGGUGCAUCAGCUGGGGCUUGGGGCUCUGGAGGAUGAGACUCUGAAGGAUGAGAGUGUGGCUCUGCUGGUGUAUCAGUGGAGGGCUCUACAGCUUGUGGCAGAUCGAAAUGGACUUGGAGCUGCCUUAAGAUGGCAGCUUGUUGAGCCUGAGUGGCCAACAUCUGCUCUUGGCAUGCUCUGAUGGCUACCAUCUCCUGAGCAAGACUGCUCUAAGAAGCUGUAAGAGUCUCCAAUGCAUGACAUAACUCUCUAUAUUUAGAUAUAGGAAUGGCCAUCCUCGGCUCAGCUGAUGUGGAUGGCUGAGAUGAAGCUGAUGUAGCUGGUGGAGCUCUAGGAAUGGCAGGAGCAGCAACUGUUAUACCCUCAGGUAUAUGUCUUGGGGAUGCUCUCCUUGUAGCUGGCUGAGGCUGCUCAGGCUGAUCAACUUUGUAGGCCGUCAUAUUGUUCCAUUUAUCAAGAGUGAAUGGCUCACGGCAAAUUCGCUUUUUCUCCAGCUGAGGCUUAGAAGGGUAUCCCAGAUGCUCCAAAAUUUGGCAUAGCAGCUUUGGAAAGAGGAGUGGAAUGCAAUCAGCUCUCUGAAGCUUCUUUUUGUGAACCUUCUCUUCAAAAUAGAGAAGGGCUGCCAUGAUCAGAUGAUGAGGCCCAAAGAAAAAUCCUUCUGACAUCUUGUAAAGAGCUUCCAGGAGGACUCCCCUUCUUUGGGUCCAAUGCUGCAAUGGAUAGAUAUUAUGACACAAAAAGGCAUCAAUCAAAAACAUAACUGGAGGAAGCUCCCCCCUCAGCAGAUGUGAUCGAUUUGCAGCUCCUCUGGAAAGGGUGCGCACCAUCUCCAGCUCAGUAGGAUUUGCCCAAGCUCUAAAAUUAUCGAAUUGGGUUGGCUCAAAGGGAAUUUGCAGGGCUUCAGCAAUAUGUCGUGCUCCCAAUAUGCCAUGUCUCCCAUCGAUAGUGAAAUGAAUCAAGGUUGGAUUCCUAACCUCUUUGGUUGUCAUGGAUUGAUAGAAAUAUGUGGCUAUCCGGGGAUAGAAAAAGUCUCUUGGAGUCAGCAAGUGCUCCAUGUGAUACCUCCUCAGCAGCUGGAAUGAUUGGGCAAGCUCCGACCUCACUCUGAAUGCCGGUAAGUCGAAGCAUAGCUCGGAAUGGAAUGGCCGUGUUCUACAAUCCAAGUUUCCCUCAAUUGGGGGCUGAGGUAGCAUUGGCCUCCGGAUUACUUCUUCCAGAGCUAUUUCGGAUGGAAUUUGGGGCUCAGGAAGUGGCGUUGGAGGCUCCUGAGAUUUUUCUUGCAGCGCCGGAGAUGGUACCGGCGACGGAACUGGCAUGGGAAUCGGCGAGGGAACUGGAGACGACACUGGAGUUGGAACCGGUGAUGGAAUUGGUGAAGGCUCUAGAGAUUGCUCAGUCAAAUCGAUGGGUUUUGAGCUCUCCACCCUGGGCUUCUUUUGCAGCGGCCGACCUCCUGACCUGGUAAGGUAUCGUUUUGCCGGAGGCUUUGGUGGCGCUGGCUUCACCGGGGGAGGAAUUGCUUUCGGCUGCGAAGGCUCUGGAGCAGAAUCUGGAACUGGCUCCUUUCGCAGACUCUUCUUGCGAUUCGAAGGAGAUGAAGAUUUAGCCCCUCGUGUUCGCGCCAUUUCAGGAUACCGAACUUUGGUCGACGUUGCUAAUCGGAGGAGAUGACUGGAGGCUUGGACGGCGUGGCUCACUGAAGAAGACGAACCGCUUGCGAGAAUGGCGCUCUAAUUUUUGAAACCCUUUUCGCAGCUCAAAUGACCGGUAUAAAUAGGAAAAACGGAAGCCUAAGGGUCAGUUUAAGUUUCGCAACAAAACGCCAAUUUCGCAGCAAAAUGCCAUUUUCACAGCAACUUCGCAGUGCGUUUCGCAGCUGCGAAAUGAGAGUUCCUGUGUUGCGAAGUGGCACUCGUGUGCCAAAACCACUUUCGCAAUUGCGAAAUACCCUGCGGAAUGGGACUUUUGGUGCGAAAUCACGCUUUUCCACUUCGCAAUGCGUUUCGCAGCUGCCAAAUGGAUGCUACUGUACUGCGAAGUGGCACUCGUGUGCCAAAUUUGCUUUCGCAGCUGCAAAAUACCCUCACAGAGACUUCUACAGUGUUGCGGAAUGGUUUGGCAACAAAAUGGUCAUUUCGCAGAAGCUUUCUUUAGAUCUUCCACCUGGGAUCAUUUAAAACGAUUAAAACACACCUAAAAACAUGAUUUAAGAUAAAAAACUAAGAUCAAAAGUAUGGAAACAACUUGAAAAUUUACAAAAUUUACAAAAAUUUUGGACUGUGGUAAACCAUGUCCAGCAAACCCUUUUUUGCUUAGGUUUUUUGAGGCUCAAGGAGGUUGAUCUCCUCCUUUUCUGGUUUGAAUGGCUCCAUGAAUGGCUUGAGACGAUAUCCAUUGACUUUGAAGCUAUCCUUGCCAUUGGAAUUCAAUAAUUCCACCACUCCAUUGGAAUAUACUCGGUGAAUAAUGAACGGGCCUAUCCACCUUGACUUGAGCUUCCCAGGAAAGAUAUGGAGUCUUGUGUCAUACAGUAAAACUCUUUGCCCUUCCUGAAAUUCCUUGUUGGAGAUGAGUUGAUCAUGCCACUUCUUCAUCCUCUGUUUUGCAACUUUGGAAUUGAUAUAAGCAUUAUUUCUUAAUUCCUCCAUCUCAUUAAGGUCUAGAUAUCUCUUUUCUCCUGCCUUGAUCAAGUCCAUAUUCAGCUUCUUUAUUGCCCACCAAGCUUUGUAUUCAACUUCCACAGGGAGAUGGCAUGCUUUGCCAUAGACAAGACGAUAGGGAGACAUGCCAAGAAUAGUCUUAUAAGUUGUUCUAUAUGCCCACAAUGAAUCAUGAAGCCUAAUAGACCAAUCCUUUCUGUUGGAAUUCACCACUUUCAUCAAGAUGUUCUUUAUUUCCCUGUUAGCUAGCUCAACUUGCCCGGAAGUUUGAGGAUGAUAAGGUGUGGCCACCUUAUGCUUCACUCCAUACUUGGAUAAUAGAGCUUCAAAAGGUUUGUUGCAAAAAUGAGCACCUCCAUCACUGAUUAUGGCUUUGGGCACCCCAAAUCUUGAGAAUAUGUUCUCUUUAAGAAACUUGAGAACCACCCUGUGAUCAUUUUGUUUACAGGGGAUUGCCUCAACCCACUUAGAAACAUAAUCCACCCCCACCAAGAUGUAAGAAUUACCAAAAGACAUUGGGAAAGGUCCCAUGAAGUCAAUGCCCCAAACAUCAAAUAACUCAACUAUUAGAAUGGGGUUCAUAGGCGUUUGAUUUCUUUUUGUUAGCUUUCCAAGCCUUUGGCAUCUGUCACAACUCCUACACAUGAUGUGGGCAUCCUUAAAAAGAGAUGGCCAAGUAAACCCUGAUUGCAACACCUUCAUGGCUGUUUUCUGAGAGGCAAAGUGGCCUCCACAUGCAUUCUCAUGACAAUGAGAUAGAAUCCCUUGCUGCUCAUCUUCAGGGACACACUUCCUAAUAAUCUGAUUUGCACAAUACUUAAAGAGAAAGGGCUCUUCCCAAUAAUAAGAAUGAAUUUUGGCAAAGAAGUGCUUCCUAUCCUGUGCAUUCCACUCACUUGGAAUUUCACUAGUUACUAAAUAAUUAGCAAUAUGAGCAUACCAAGGAGUUUUCACUAGGAACAUGAGUGAUUCUUCAGGAAAAUCAUCAUUAAUAGGCAAGGGAUGGGAAUUAUGUGCUAUAACUAACCUUGAAAGGUGGUCAGCUACCACAUUCUCCACUCCUUUCUUAUCUUUGAUUUGAAGAUCGAAUUCUUGUAACAAAAGAAUCCAUCUAAUCAACCUUGCUUUUGCAUCUUGCUUUGUCAAUAAAUACUUCAAGGCUGAAUGGUCAGUAAAGACAAUGAUGAAAGACCCCACUAAAUAAGCACGAAAUUUGUCCAAAGCAAAUACCACAGCUAACAAUUAUUUCUCUGUAGUUGUGUAGUUCCUUUGAGCUUCAUUUAGUGUUUUACUUGCAUAGUAAAUCACAUAGGGCUUCCCAUCUUCUCUUUGGCCAAGCACAGCUCCUAUAGCAAAGUCACUGGCAUCACACAUCAGUUCAAAAGGUAAUUGCCAGUUAGGGGCUCUCACUAUUGGAGUUGUUGUUAAAAAUUUCUUCAGUUGAUCAAAGCUAUGCUGACACCUUUCAUCCCAUAUAAACUUAGCAUCCUUAGCUAACAGCUCACAAAGAGGUUUUGAAAGACUUGAAAAACCUUUUAUAAACCUCCUAUAGAACCCUGCAUGGCCAAGGAACUGCCUUACUCCUUUUACAGUUGUUGGAGAUGGUAAUUUGACAAUAAGCUCCACCUUUGCUUUAUCAACUUCAAUGCCUUUUUCAGAGAUGAUAUGGCCAAGGACAAUUCCUUGACGUACCAUAAAAUGGCAUUUCUCCCAGUUGAGCACCAGAUUUUUUUCAAUGCAUCUAUGAAGAACUGCUUCCAAAUUAACCAAGCAUUCCUAAAAUGUACCUCCAUAUACGGUGAUGUCAUCCAUGAAAACCUCCAUAAUUCACUCCACCAUAUCACUGAAAAUACUCAACAUACAUCUUUGAAAUGUAGUAGGUGCAUUGCAUAAACCAAAAGGCAUUCUCCUGUAAGCAUAUGUUCCAAAUGGACAUGUAAAAGUGGUCUUUUCCUGAUCUGCCAAAUCAAUUUCAAUUUGAAAAUACCCUGAAUACCCAUCCAAGAAACAAUAAAAUGGAUGUCCAAAGACUCUCUCCAGCACUUGGUCAAUAAAUGGCAAUGGAAAAUGAUCUUUCCUGGUUACAGCAUUCAGCUUUCUAUAAUCAAUACACACCCUCCAACCUGAAGUGAGGCGUGUAGUAACUUCUUUUCCUUUUUCAUUUUGAACCACUGUGAUCCCUGACUUCUUUGGUACCACUUGAGUAGGACUCACCCAAGGGCUAUCAGAUAUAGGGUAAAUGAUUCCUGCUUGAAGUAGCUUCAGCACUUCAGCUCGCACCACCUCUUGUAGAUGAGGAUUCAACCUUCUUUGAAAUUGACGAAUUGGCUUUGCUUCCUCCUCCAUAUAUAUAUGAUGAGUACAAACUAAAGGACUAAUGCCUUUCAAGUCAGAUAUUUGCCAUCCUAUUGCCUUCUUUCACCUCUUGAGAACUUCCAUUAAACAAUUCUCUUGAUGACUGGUCAGAGAUGAAGAUAUCACAACAGGACAUUGAUUAUUUUCUUCAAGAUAUGUAUAUUUCAGCUCCUAAGGUAAAGGCUUCAGAUUGAGUUUUGGAAUUUCUUUUUCAACAGCUGCCUCCUCUUCUUUAUUGAACAAAGGUAGAAUUUCUUCUAUCUUUCUCCAACUUUGUAGAGUAGCAAGCCCAAUAGGAGAUUCAUACAAACCUUCCUCAAAAUUCACAAGACUUUUAUUCAACUUGUCUUGCAUAUUUUGAUUACAGUGUUCCUCCACCAAAGUAUCAAUAAUGCACAGCUCUUUUGGACCCUCUUCUUCUUCCGGAGUGAUUUGCUUUUUAGACAUAUAGAAAUAUUGAGAUCCAGUGUCAUGUUACCAAAAGUGAGUUGCAUAAGCCCAUUCCUGCAGUUGAUGAUUGCAUUUGAAGUAGCAAGAAAUGGCUUUCCAAGGAUGAUAGGAACUAAAUUAGCUUUCUUUACGGUAGGAUCUGUAUCAAGAACAAUAAAAUCUACUGGAUAGUAGAAAUUAUCCACUUGAACCAAUACAUCCUCAAUUACCCCUCUUGGAAUUUUCACUGAUCUAUCUACCAGAGAUAGAGUGAUUGUUGUUGGCUUCAACUCUCCAAGUCCCAAUUGCUUGUAGACGGAAUAUGGAAGCAAAUUCACACUUGCUCCCAAAUCUAGCAAGGCUUUCUCCACUACCUUUCCUCCAAUCAUGACUGAAAUGGUAGGACUUCCAGGGUCUUUGUACUUCAAAGGGGACUUACAUUGUAAGAUUGCACUUACUUGCUCAGUCAAGAAGGCUAUCUUGUUUACAGUCAACCCUCUCUUGAUAGUACACAAGUCCUUUAGGAAUUUUGCAUACGUUGGAACUUGUUUGAUCAUAUCCAGCAGUGGAAUAUUGACUUUUACUUGUCUCAAUACUUCAAGGAUUUCAGCUGCAUUUCUAACCCCCUUUUUCCCAUGUAAUGCUUGAGGAAAAGGUGGAGAGGUUGAUUUCUUCAGCAUUUCUUUCUUCAUAAGUUCCUUCUCUGGAAUUACAUUCAUUGUUGAAUCAGAGUCCUUUUCUUCACUGAUCUCACUGUCUUUAUCUUCCAUUUCCUUCCCUUUCUUUAUCUCUUCUUCUUUCUCAACAUGUGGCUUGCGUGUUGGCUGCUCAAUUUUUUUACCACUCCUUAGAGUGAUCAAGGCUUUGACAUCUUUCAUCUGUGAUGAUUCUCCCUCUUGGCUUUCCAGUUCAUGGACACCUUUGGGAUUUUGGUGAGGUUGAGAAGGAAAUCUUCCCUUUUCUUUCAGUGUAUUCAAAUUUGUAAGCCUUGAAAUUGAAUAUUGGAUGUUAUCAAACUUUUAGUUCAUAUCAUUUUGCAUUCCAUCCAUCCUUUUAUUCAACAUACUCUCCAUUCUAUCCAUUCUUUGAUCGACUCGAGCAUUGGUGGCGUCUUGCUUUCCAAAAAAAUCUCCCACUACCUUAGUGAGAUUGGCUACUGCUUGUUCAAUACUUGAAGAUUGUUGAGAUGGUGGAUCCGGCUGUUGGUACUGAGUUGCUCUGGCCUUCCAUGAGAAAUUUGGAUGAUUCCUCCAACUUGAGUUGUAGGUAUUUCCAUAAGGCGCAUUGUUAUUGGGCCUGAAUUGUCCAACAACAUUUGCUUGAUCUCUAUACAUUUCCUUUUCAGCUGAAAUUGCAGGGCAUUCCUCCACCAAAUGUUCAUAUGAUUGACAAUUGGGACACAACUUCACUUGCACUGGUGCUUCAGCAACAGCUUGCACUUCAUGUAUUCUUUUCAGCUCCAGCUCCUCCAAUCUUCUUGUCAUAGCUGCCAACUUUGCUUUCAUAUCAUCAUCUUCUUUUAAGGUAUACAUCCCAGCCUUUGCAUUGUAAGCAUUCAACUGAGACUUCAUCUUUCCCACUUCUCCUUUAGUUGGUUCAUCCCAUCCCCUUGAAACAUCAGCUACAUAGUUCAAGAAAUCCAUAGCUUCCUCUGGAUUUUUGCUCAUGAAAUCUCCUCCACACAUUGUCUCGAGGAGUUGCUUCAUUGAGGAGGACAUACCAUCAUAAAAAUAGCUCACCAAUAGCCAAGUAUCAAAGCCAUGGUGAGGGCAAGCAUUUAUAGCUUCCAUGUAUCUCUCCCAACACUCAUAGAAUUUCUCAUUCUCUUUAGCUGAGAAGUUUGAAAUUUGCCUUUUCAAGCCAUUUGUUCUAUGAGUAGGAAAAAAUUUCUUGAGGAAUUCAGCUUGUAAAUCAGUCCAAGAACGGAUACUCCUUGGCCUUAAAGAAUUAAGCCAAAUUUUGGCCUUAUCCUUUAAAGUAAAAGGAAAUAACUUAAGCCUCAUCAAAUCAAUUGAAGCUCCUCCCUCUUGAAAUGUAUUACAAACAUCUUCAAAUUCCUUGAUGUGUGCAUACAGAUUCUCACUUUCCAUCCCAUGGAAAGUUGGUAGAAGUGGAACAAGAUACGGUCUGAUCACUAGCUGCUCUGUAGGGGGCACUAUACAUGAUGGUGCACUCAUACGAGGUGGAUGCAUGCAGUCCCUCAUUGAUCUGAAUUCAUUGAGAUUAUCUUGACGACCUUGGUGACUAUGCUGAUCUUCAGGUGUAGCUUCCAUGAUAUUCAAGAUCACUUCGAAUUCUUUUCUCUGAGGUGUAUCACACUUAACAAGCCUUCCUCCACUAUCUCGUAUCCACUUUGGCAUACACAACUAGUAUCUAUCUGCAACUAAAAAUGAAAACAAAAGACAACAAAAGAAACAGGGCUACAACAAUAAAAUUAAACUAGGCUAAAUUUUAAAAGAUAAACUUAGAUUAUGAAUAAAUAAAGAAAGAAUGAGAAUUAGUAAAGUGAAAGAAACUUUACCAACUUGUGAUGAAAAUCACAAGUGCUCAAAAAUGGUAUCAAUAUAAACUUGACAUAUUCCCCGGCAACGGCGUCAUUUGAUUCGUCCCUAGCAGCGGCAGUGGCAAUGGCACCAUUUGAUUCGGGGUUCGAUCCCCGGCAACGGCGCCAUUUGAUUCGUGCCCAAUUGGUAUCUCAGCUGAUUUGUGUCCAGCUGGUGCUCCUUGAUUGAGGGAGUAAUCAACAAAAUUUAUAACCUAUAACACCAUAUACUAGGGUAGCAAAGAAAAAGCUACUAUAGUAUAGUGGCUCUAGGAUCGUCCACUGGGAAAGAUUAACAAGCUCUCAUUGAUACCAAUUCCAAGUGAAUUGGCCUUGUUUCAUUUCAAGGUUAGCUUAAGAAGUAAAACACAAACUUUAAUUGGUAAAGGUUUAGACUUAAACUAACUAACAUAACAGAAGUUUGGAAUAAUUUAGGAAGAANNNNNNNNNNNNNNNNNNNNNNNNNNNNNNNNNNNNNNNNNNNNNNNNNNNNNNNNNNNNNNNNNNNNNNNNNNNNNNNNNNNNNNNNNNNNNNNNNNNNUUGAUUCGGGGUUCGAUCCCCGGCAACGGCGCCAUUUGAUUCGUGCCCAAUUGGUAUCUCAGCUGAUUUGUGUCCAGCUGGUGCUCCUUGAUUGAGGGAGUAAUCAACAAAAUUUAUAACCUAUAACACCAUAUACUAGGGUAGCAAAGAAAAAGCUACUAUAGUAUAGUGGCUCUAGGAUCGUCCACUGGGAAAGAUUAACAAGCUCUCAUUGAUACCAAUUCCAAGUGAAUUGGCCUUGUUUCAUUUCAAGGUUAGCUUAAGAAGUAAAACACAAACUUUAAUUGGUAAAGGUUUAGACUUAAACUAACUAACAUAACAGAAGUUUGGAAUAAUUUAGGAAGAAAAGCAUUCCCUGGAGAGUUAGGUUCACUGGGGUGGUUCCUCAUGCAAAAGACAUAGCUCCGGUCAGAUGAUUCAUUUCCUCGUGUUAGAGAUUCAACAUAUAGUCAAUUCUCUAACCGGUGUUGUACAGAGACUCCUUCAAUUAGAUUUCACUUUAAUUCUCUCACUGAUGCAACUUGCAAUGGUUUAAGCCUCUCACUAAGCCUUAACCAUUCAAGGUGAUCUUUAACCUUGGAUUACCCGUCAAAAGCUCGCAAGAGAUAACUAAUGGAUGUCUCCUUGGAUUCCAAAAGCUUAUCAAGUGUUGGCUAUUCUAGAAAAUCCUACCUUGAAGUCACCUCCCAGAGGCUCGCAAGGGGUAAACUAGUGCAUUUCCAUGGUUGGAAAUCACUUGCCUUACCAAGUGUUGGCCCAGGUGACUCUAAGGUGUUUUAAGUUAACUAAAAACAUAGAAAUCAUUAAAGGAUUUCACUUCCUCUUCAUUAAUAGCUAAAACCACAGAGCUUUGCAUUCUUGCACUUGGAACAUUCCCCGGCAACCUUAGCUCCAAGGAACUAGAGGUUUAAUUACUCAUUCUAUGGGGAAAACUCCCCAGAGAGUUCAUAACUUAGUAAGAAAAUGAAAAUACAAAGUGAGAAGGUAAGGCAGUAGAAAGAAAAUAAACUUUACUUGCUUACCCAAACUUUUACAGAAGGAACUCCUCCCUGAGAACAGGCUCCCGAGAGGUAUAUAUAUGUACAUAAUAUAAAACUAAUUAUUACAUAGAUAUUUAGUCUUUUUACUAACUUAAAAGCUAAGGAAUCAUGUAAUUGGUGAUUUACAAGGAGUAUUUUGGGAUUUAGACAACAAAAAUCUAAUGGAAAAUAUCUCCCAAUGUCAGUAGCAAAUAUCGGGAGGCUUCAGGAACCAUUUCGCAGGAGAAAAAUGGUGUCUACGAGAUUUCGCAGACACUUAAGAGGGCUGCGAAAUAAUUUCGCAAUACCAAGCUAUCUUCACAAGGCUGCGAAGAUGGCUUCCACCUUGAGGUUCCCAGCUUCCUUCUCGCAGCAUAAAUCGGGCAUCGUCAGAAGGAGAAACAUUACACUGUUCAAAAAGGCUGCGAAAUCACUUCGCAACAAAAGGGUGAUUUCGCAACACUUUGCAAAAUGCUUCCUUCAGCUCGGAGUGAUUGGCUUGUAAUGGCUGUAACUUCUUCGUUUCAACUCCGAAUUGCACACCGUUUGAAGCAUUGGAUUUUUGACUUCCUGAGCUUUGAAAUGGUAUAUAGUAUGCAUCAUUUGGACUUCAGAAAGUGCUCCAAAAGUGGCUGCUAUGACUGUCAUCAAGAAUAUGCUUUAUGGCAGAUUCUCUUUGCUUUUUCUCCUUGCAAUCCGGAUUUACUCUUGGAAAAUGACUUCUAAGCUUUGCCCAAGAUUCCUCAUAGCUCUCCUCAGUCUUGACUUGCUUUGGUAAUCAAAAUACUAAUAAAAACACCAAAACUUACACAAAGUGAUCAAAAUUGCUUUCAAGGGUCCUUAACAUGCCAAUUGAGUUAAAAGGCCAAAACUACUACUCAAAAGUGUUUAAAAGGAUUAAUUAUAAGCUAUCAAAUAGCACUUUUUGAGUAGUAAUCACUCUUUACCACUCCUCAAAGUGAUAACUGCUUUAACUUCCCUCACCUUUGAAGAUUCUCCCUCUUGAGUCUCCACUUCAUGGAUACCCUUGGGAUUUUGAUGAGGUUGAGAAGGAAGCUUUCCUUUCUCUUGCACUGUGUUGAGGUUGGUAAGCCUUGAGAUUGCGUAUUGGACAUUGUCUAUCUUUUGAGACAGAUCAUUUUGCAUCCCAUUCAUCCUUUUAUUCAAUGUACUCUCCACACUAUCAAUUCUUUGAUUCAAUUGAGCAUUAAUGGACUUCUGAUCUCCCACAAAGUCUCCCACAACCUUACUAAGGUUCACAAUAGCUUGUUUAAGAUUCGAGGCUUGCUGAGGUGCUUGAGCAAGUUGUGUUUACUGAGGUGGCUUUGGUUUCUAAGAGAAAUUUGGAUGAUUCCUCCAAUUUGAAUUGUAGGUGUUGCCAUAGGAAGCAUUGUUAUUGGGUUUGAAUUGACCAAUAACAUUUGCUUGAUCACCAAACAUCUCUCUCACUGUUGGAAUUGUAGGGCACUCCUCUACCAAGUGCUCAUAACAUUGACAAAUGGAACAAGGCAUAGCUUGCAAUGGUGUCUCAGAAAUGGCUUGAACUUCUUGUAUCUUCUUCAUUUCUAGCUCUUCCAAUCUCCUUGCUUUAGCUACAACCUUUGCCUUCAUGUCAAUGUCUUCCUUCAAAACAUACAUCCCACCCUUAGCAUUAGGUUAAGACUUCAUUCUUCCCACCUCUCUAGCAUUUGGUUCAUCCCAUCCUCUUGAAACUUCAACCACAUAAUUCAAAAAGUCCAUAGCUUCCUCCGGAUUCUUAUUCAUGAAGUCUCCUCCACACAUAGUUUCUAGGAGUUGCUUCAUUGAAGAAGACAUACCAUCGUAAAAAUAGCUCACUAAGAGCCAUGUGUCAAAGCCAUGGUGAGGACAAGCAUUAAUAGCUUCCAUGUAUCUCUCCCAAUACUCAUAGAAUUUCUCAUUCUCUUUAGCUGAGAAGUUUGAAAUUUGUCUUUUCAAACGAUUGGUCCUAUUAGUAGGGAAGAACUUCUUGAGAAACUCGCCUUGCAAAUCAGUCCAAGUAUUGAUACUCCUUGGCCUUAAAGAAUUAAGCCAAAUAUUGGCCUUAUCCUUCAAAGUGAAAGGAAAUAGUUUGAGCCUCAUCAAGUCAAUUGAAGCUCCUCUUUCUUGGAAUGUAUUACAAACCUCCUCGAAUUCCUUAAUAUACGAGUAGGGAUUCUCACUUUCCAUCCCAUGGAAAGUAUAUAGGAGUGGCACAAUGUGAGGUCGGAUUAGUAGCUGCUCAGUGGGAGGCACUAUGCAUGAUGGUGCACUCAUACGAGGUGGAUGCAUGCUGUCCCUCAUGGAUCGAUAUGCAUUGAAAUUAUCCUCUUAACCAUGUUGGCUAUUCUGAUCUUCAGGUGGAACAUCCAUGAUGUUUAAGCACACUUCCAACUCAGUUUCUCGAGGAGUUUCAAUCUUCACAAGUCUUCCCUCAAUAUCUCUUAUCCAAUAGGGCAUGCACAACUAGAGAUCACUGAAACAAAAACAAAGAAAAAAAAAAAGAAAUACAAUGUUGGCAAAAAAUUAAGGUUAACUAAAAACUAAAUAAAAGAUAAGGUAAAAUAUAGACAAAGAAAAAGAAUUAGUAAAAAUAAAAAUCACCAAACUUGUGAUGAAGACCACAAGUAUUCACCAAAAGUCAUGUCAAUGUAUUGUGGCACCAUCUCUGGCAAUGGCGCCAUUUGAUUCGUCCCCAUUGCAGUCAUGCCAUUUGAUUAUGGCUCAGACGGGUGUUAUCAACAAAAUUUAUGAAACCUAAAUCACCUCACACUAGGGUAGCAUAGCUAACAUAGUAUAGUGGCUCUAGGAUCGUCCACAGGGAUGGGUUUUCAUCAUACAAUUUACUUAAAUGAAGGAAAUAAAAUGGUGUUUUUUCUUAUGAAAGUUAGCUUUUAAAGAAAAUUGGAAUUAUGGUUGCAAAGAUUGAUUUUAAGUUAAGAAAAAACAAUAAGUGAAAUUAACUACAAAGAAAAGGGUCUCUUGGAGCUUCAGGUCACUAGGAUCGGGUUUCUUAGGCAAAGAAGGAGAUUCCGGAUCUUCUCCUCGUGUUGGGGAUAAUAACAUAAAAGAUGGUUAUCACCCGAACUGGUUUUAUAUUUAGCAAUUAAGAUUUGAUCCAAAGGUUUCAUGAGAAAUGGUAAUUGUUUCCCAUUAAUGGCUUCAAACACUAAAGACUUUCACCUUAAACCACCUUCCAAUAGCUCGUAAAUGAUAACUAAUAGACAUCCAUGGUUUUAAGAAUAAGCAUCCAUGGAAUCCGAAAAGCUUACCAAGUAUUGGCCAUUCAAGGUGCUUUUAAGGGAUUUAAAACUAAACCUUGAAAUAAAAACCAUUGAUGGUUAACAACUACUGUCAUUUCAAGCAAGGAUAACUCCCACCUUUGCAUUCAGGUCCUUCACCUAACUUUCAUCACUCCAAGAAACGGAAAACCUAACCACUCAUCCCCUGAGAAAUCAUCCUCAGAGGUUGUUUGGCUAGCAAGAAAAGUGAAAACAAAAUGAGAAUGAAAGGCAGAGCAAAAACUCUGUAUAUUUCUUAGUACGGGAAUUUACAAGUGUUUUAUGAAAAGCAUACAUAAUUUUUCAUCCCUCUAUCUCUCUCCUUAUAUAUAAGCUACCUAAAAGAUAUAAAAGAAAAUAUCUAGGUUGGUUACAAGGAGAAACUAGGAAAUUACACAAAAUAUCUGAAGAUAAAAAUCUAAUGGAGUCGGUGCAUAGGAAGAUUUCGCAUACCAUGCGAAAUUUGGCAUGGUGUACGAAAUUUCGCACAGCCAUGCGAAACUGCUUGUUGUUGGAUUUCUUCCUCUGGUUUUCUUCCUCGCAUCUCUAAUUGGCUUGGCAAAGGGCUAUGAAGUGCUCCAAAGCUUGGAUUCUUCAUGUAUUUGAGCUUUAUCUUGCAUUGCCAUGGAUUUCACCAUAUUCUCCCUCAUUCUUGGCUUGUUUCAAUGAUAAAAAAGCUACCAAAAGCACCAAAACUUGCCAAAAAUUGAUUAGUAACCCUUGCUAGGUUCCUUCAUGUGUCAAUUGAGUUAAAAGGUAUUAACUACUACUCAAAAGUGUUUAAAACAGUUAGUUUCAAGCUAUAAAAGAGUUCUUUUUGAAUAGUAAUCACUAGGUAAAAUUAAGCUACAGGUUUCUUAAUGGUAUCAAAUCCAACGUCUAAUUACUAGGAAUAAUGGUUAAAAUAACAAUGAUAGGUGCUUCCAAUUAUGAUAACAACUUGAAGGAGGCAGAUAGAAAACCUAUCCCUCAUUAGAAUUUUGUGACCAAUGGUCAUGGUCACUCUUCUUAGCUAAUUAUUUCUCAGAAAUUAACUUAAUGGAGAAAAUUAUCUUUAAUGGUCUCAAUUUGUCAAACCUUUCAUUCAUGGGCAUGGAAAAAUUGAAUAUUUUAUUAGAGCAACAUCAACACCACAAGGAACAAUUCUCAUCGAGACAUAGGAAGUAGAUAAUGCCAUAUUAUGUCAUGGCUGAUCAACUCAAUGGAACUCAAGAUUAGGAAGACAAACAUGUUCAUGGCCAUAACUAGAGAAAUCUAGGAGGCUACCAAGGAAACCUAUUACAACUUGGUAAUUUGCUUAGGUCCAUAAGAUAGGCAUACAAAUAAAAAAUACUAAGCAAGGUAAUAUGAAUGUAAUUCAGUACUAUAAUACACUUAAAACUCUUUGGUAAGAACUUAAUUUGUUCUAUGAUUAUGAAUAACAUUGUGCAUAAGAUAGUGAAAUGUUCUAAAAGAUGACGAGAAUGAUCGAGUAUUUGCAUUCCUAGUGGGGUUUAAAUAAUAAAUUAGAUGAGGUUUACCUCUUUACUUAAUAUUACCCUAGUUAUAAAAAACCAGUAAGCUUCAUAUUUUGCCCAAUGAUCCAAAAUUCAAAAGAAUUCAUGGAAGGCCUUAGUGUGACCAUCAUUUCCUCUAAAUGCUUCCAGAAUUCAAAAUAUUCAUUGACAAGUGAUUAACCAUCAUCUUUUCGAAAUGCAUCUUUAGAUGUCAAUACCCAAAGGUGUUCAAUUUCAUAAGAUAUUGACCAAGUCUAGAUAUUAAGAAGGUAUAUCAUCCUCUACCAUUAGAAAGAAGAAGAUACAUUAUCCUCACUUGUGAAAGCACAUAUGUCAUCAUCUCAACAAAUCAAACAUGCGUGCAAAUUUUUCUUCUUGGUCUUCUAAUUGUGGUCAAGCAAGUAUUAAUGAAGUACUUAAUUUGAAGCAUCUGUUUAUCAUCUAUAGUGGUUGUAGUUGCUAAUCCAAUAAUUACACUCCUUUGAAAGUGGUACAAAUUAUUCUUCCUUAUUCCUUGUAUCACCACAAGUUUACUUGGCAUAACUUUCAAAAUCCCAGAUUUUAUAGUAACAAUAUUGAACCCUAUGGGUUCUAAUACUCCAAUUGAGAUGAGAAACUUAUUCAUACUAGGAACAUACCAAACAUCACUCAAAAUUUUAGUUGAUUCAUCAUGAGUCUUCAAUUGGAUGGUAUCUAUUAUUGUUAUCUCACAAGCAUUAUCAUUCCCCAUGUAAACAACUACAUCUUGUAGUUCUUCAAAGCAAGAAAACCACUCCUUGUAAGAAUGCAUGUGAAGGUGGACUCAAUAUCCAAAAUCCAUUCAUCUAAGUUAUAAAACAAGGAUAAGCAAACCAAAGCAAAGUUUGACCCAUCUUCUCCAAACUUAGCCACACAAGCAUCGAAUACUAUUUAUUCUUUAUUCUUAUUAUGUAGCUUAGGACAAUCAUUAUUCUGACACUACCAAAACUUAAGUAUGGCUGACCCAUUUAUAUUUACUUUUCGGACAUAUUUAAGUUGACGCAAAUUUCUAACACACCUAUUCCAUCGCAAAUUGAAUUGUCCAUCGCUUAUAUGUAACUAUUUAUCAACAGUAAUUGCAACAACAAAUACCUGUCGACAAAAAUAUCAUUGCAAUGGAUUUAAACCAUUGCAAAUGUUCAACUAAUAUACUUUGUUACAAAAGCAAUUUACCUAUAAAAUAGGAAAAAAAAAGUGAACUUUCAAAAAUAAUUUUUUCUAUGAAAAUUACUACUCACUAAAAUAGUUUUAUUAUAGUGGAUAAUAAUACCACUCAUAAUUUGUUCCAAAAAUAAUUAUAGUCAUAUGAAUAUAAAAUCUUUUCACCAUAGUUGUAUGAUAAAUACGAUCUAGCUAGUGACAAAACAAUUUUAUGAUUAUUUUUUUAGGUUCAUACAAUAUUUACAUUUUUUUUAAUCAUAAUAGUUUUAACAUUGUAAUAUUUUUUAACUACUUUUUAUUGUCCAUUUUAGAAAGAAAUAAAUUAAAAAUUAUUGAUAUAUAUAUAUAUAUAUAUAUAUAUAUAUAUAUAUAUAUAUAUAUAUAUGUAUGUAUGUAUGUAUGAUAUAAUUUAUGAUAUCGAAUAAUAAUAUUGAAAAUUUAAAAAUACAUUUUAUAGAGAUUUAUCUAAUUGAAUGUAUUCAAUAACAUAAAAAAAAUGAUAGUACAUGUAUAAGUAUUUUUAUUUUAAAAUGUUGAUAAUUUUAUUUAUAAAUUUAUAUUUAUUUUAUAUUUAAUUAUUAUACAAAAUACACAAGAAUCAAAAUUAAUUAAUUUAUAAUAAUUUUAUUUUAAUUUAUUUAUAUAUAUAUAUAUAUAUUAACUCAUGCAUGUAUAAUUUAUAUAUAAUAUGUAUUUAUAUAUAGAUAAUAUUUAUAAUAUAAAUGCAUAAGUAUAUAAUAUUUACAUUUAUGAAUCUUAUAUACAUUCUUUAUAUUACACAUAACAAAGUUGACUUGAUGGCACAGUUGCUUCCUUUCAAACUUGAGGUCAAGGGUUCAAUCUCAAGAAACAACAUCCAAGCCAAUAUCCAAAACUAGCAAGGAGAGGAGUGUACAAGAUGCUCCAUGUGAAUGUAAUGAAAUCGAAAUUUCAUGACAACCUAAAAUCUUUUAUUAUUUAUAUUUCUCAACCAACUUAAUUUGUUGGUAAUAGUGAUGGUCUAAAUCCAUUGGAUAGUUUGUUGCUAAAUAUUUUUUAUUGGCAACGGAAAAUUCCCAUCAAUAGACUUUUGCCAACACACCUUUCCUCUCCUACCAUGCGAUGGGAUUAUCGAUUGGUAAAUGUUUAUUUCGACUAUGUAUAUUAGCCAAGAAAAGUCAAAUUUCUUGUAAUGCGAUGACCCUUGUCAUGAAAAAAAACAUAUUCAUCUUUUGCAAGUAUACAUUUAAAUUAAGAAUUGUCUUAUUUUCUAGGUUUUCAACUUUGAGAUUAGUCAUUAACUGUUAAAGCUUCCAAUGAUAUAUCUCUAUGAUCGCUUUGGUCCUUCUUCCUUUAUUUAGAGCUUAGAAAAGUGGAACACACAACAUCGAAAGUAAUCUUAUCCUUACCAGAAAGUAAGGUGAUGGUAAGAUUUUCAUACACAUCAAGAAACAAAUUCAAUAACAAUAAGGCCUUAUUCUCAUCUUCAAUGAUCUCAUCUAAAUUCAACAAAUUUGCUAUGAUUCUAUCAAAUGCAUGCAUAUGAUCAUUCAGAGACAUAUCUAGUUGAUACUAGAAGCAAAAAAGUUUUUUCUUCAAAUAUAGUUGAUUUUCUAGACCUUUUUUCAUAUACUUGUCUUCCAAUGACUUCCAUAAAUGUUUUUGUGGAUAUCUCUUUCAUAAUGGAAUAAUUUUAAGCUUUAACAAGAUAUAUUGGAUGGAACUAUAAAAUUGACUAUUGAUCCCUUACCCAUUUUUUAUCAUUCAUGUUUUCAAGUUUUUCUUCCAAAACAAUAUCCAAAUCCUAUUGACAUAUCUAAUUAAUGCCUCUUACUACCACAUUCCAAAAGUACUAGUCCUAUCAAAUUUCUCUAUUACAAAUUUCGCAUUAGUAACCAUAGUUUUAACUAACGAAGUUUUUACCUUUUCUUUUAACUAGUGCAAUAACAAAUAACCUUGAACUAACCUUGAAACCAACCUUGGAUAGGACUAAUGCUCUUAUACCAUUUUGUUGUGCUUUAACCUAAUCCCACAAGACUUCCAAAAGUACCAAAUAAAAUACAAACUAAACUAGUCCAUAAUAUAAAGAGAAAUAUCAAGAGAAAUAAAAAUAAAGGAGGGUACACAAUAUUUAUGAGGUUUAGUAAGGACAUCUUACCUAUAUCAUUGGACAAUGAUGAUCAAUCCACUAAUCUUCAAAUCAAAAUUACAAAAUCAAGUUGGGAAAGAUUGUCUCACAAAGUGGCUGCAAUUACAAAGAUUGACUGAAGCUACUCUAACAACUUUCCUAAAGUCAUUCUCUCACUACUAUGAUGAAAAGACUUAAGACUCAUUUAUAGAACCUAAAUAAGUCCCCGAUCCUUGACAAAACUAAUUCAUAAUUCCUAUGGGACAAGGACUCAUAACAUAUAACAAAUUAUGAAAUCAUAAUCCUUAUAGGAUAAAGAUCCCUAAAAUAUAUUAAGCUCUUAAUUGAGCUAAAAGGCAAUACCUAAUAUAGAACCCAUAUCAUAUUUUCCAUAACUAUACUAAAUAGAUGGUUGUUAAGCAGAAUUAUCACUUUCAAAAGUUAAAUAAUCAUUUAUUUUUCCUUCCCUUUCCAUUUUUCUUAUCAUCCAAACAACAACAAUAAAAAAUUGAUGCGACUCAUGGUAGCUUAGCUUUAAAGGCGUAUCAACAAAAUUUAUACCUUAAAUACUAUUACUAAAGUAGCCAAGCUACUAUAGCAUAGUGGUUCUAGGAUCGUUCACUGGGAAGGGUUUUCGCGAACACAAGUGAUAUUCAAAUUAGGAAAAUAGGUGAUUUUCUUAUGGAUGUUAGCUUUAAAAGAAGAUGUAAAUGUUUUAGAAAGAUUUAAACUAAUCUAAGCUAACAUUAAAGACUAAAAUGAAAGGGUGUAAAAACAAGUUUCUCAAAGAUAGGAUAGCUAUGCUCUGGCUCUUAUGCAAAUUGGAAAUCUCAGGAUAGGCUCUUCGCUUUGGGGUUGCAACUAUGGUGAUGCUUGCUUCCCGAACCGGUAUGGAUUUAGCAAAUCAAGUUUUAAUCCUUUAAAAUGGCAAAACAGAUGGUAGUGAAUUUCAUCAAUGGUUAUUCACCUUAGACUUCCUUUGAAUGGCUCGUAAGAGAUAACUAAUGGUCUAAAGCCAAAAGCUUACCAAAUAUUGGCAACUCAAAGUCAUUCCAGGUGAUAAACUCACCUUUCAAUGACCAUUGAAAUUGGUUCUUAACGGAUUAAUGCAAAACUUGGAAUUGAAAACCUCACCUUCCAAUAGCUCGUAGGAGAUAACUAAUGGAUAGAAAUCCAAAAGCUUAUCAAGUAUUGGCCGUUGGAAGUUGUCCAAAGGAAAUAAAAACCAAACUUUGCAUUAUUGAACCAUUAAUGAAAAACGACUACCUUACCUUCCAAGUGCGAGAAAUUUCCAUGGGAUUGCAUCCAAGCCAUCACAUAACAUCCAUACUUUGAGAAACUAAAAGUUUUAGCCAAUCAUCCUCUGAGGAAAAGUCCUUAGAGGCUAUUUGGCUACUAAGAAAAUAAAAAUGGGGAAAAACAGGAGAAGAGAGAAAAACAGAGCUUUAUAUAUUUCUAAGUUAAUGUACAGAGAAUCGAUCCCCCCAAUCUCCAAUCUUUUGGAGGCGUUGUGCACCUCUAUAUAUAGCAAAAUAACAAGAUAAAGCCUUAUGUCAGCUGAAUACAAGGUUACAAAAGGAAUUUACACGAGAAAAUAUCAAGGCUAAAAAUAUCUGGGAAGUCGGUGGUGCGUGCAUGGAGAAACAAAGGAUUUCAAAGGCAUUUCGUAAGGUGCCUAAAUCCACCUUGCGAAAUUUCGCAAGGUUCUUUCUUCAUGGUGCGAAAUGGCCAAAUUUCGCACCAUGAAGAAAAUCUCCUUGCGAAAUUUUCGCAAGAUGAAAUUCACCUUGCGAAAUGGUGUUCCCAUGGCUUGAUGCAGUUGUCUUCCGAAGGCCAUAUCUUCCUCAUUUCAGCUCCAAAUCGUACACGGUUUAAAGCGUUGGAUUCUUGACUUCCUGAGAUUUGAAAUGGUAUAUAACAUGUAGAAAAUGAACUUCGGGAAGUGCUCCAAAAGUGCGAAAGGAGAUUGCAGCUGCUGUCCUCUAUUUUCUUCACUCUGUUUUCCUCUUCUCCAUUGUUCUUUCCUUGCAUACUUUGAACGACUUUGGCAAAGGGCUAUGGAGCUCCAAAGCUUGGUUUGUUUGUGCUCGUGUUUCCACUUGAAAUUUAAGCCUGUAAACUUCCAAAAUCCUUGCUUUAACUUGUCUAAGUAGCUCCUCCAUCAUUUGGCAUGCUUGAAUCGAUUCAUAAGCUGAUAAAAACAUGUAAACUUGCCACAAAAUGGUUAAAACCAAUUACUAAGGACCUUAAUGAAUUAAUUGGGUUAAAUGAAUAUGAUUACUACUCAAAGGUGCUUAAAACCAUUAUAAUUAGGUCUACAAAAUAGCACUUUUUGGUAGUAAUAAAAAAUGUAGUGUAACUUUUGUUACUUUGCUACUUGUUCUCUCAAGUUACUUGCCUGCUUGUGAAUGAUCUCUAUAAUCAAAGUAAAUGGAGAAAUAAUGUGGAGUUCCAAGAUAUAGGUAGAAAAGAGUGGAUAAAAACCCUAGUUCUACAAAAUAGUUUGCAAUUUUGUCUUUAGAUCUCUCAUUUUCGUGGUAAUGGCCAUUGAAGAUGUCAUCACUGACAAUAUCACAAAGUGAAGAAGGCAUGACUGAGGGUUGGUAGAGUAGAGAGUUAAGGUAGAAAAUAGCAAAGAUAUGAUUUUGACUUUUUUAGAAUUUGUAAAUAAAAAAUAAAUACAAUCGAAAAAUCACUUUCAGAACAUUAGGUUGAAUUAAGGCACAAGAAAUGGCUACCACAUGUAUGCUAAGUGAAAUAUUAGAGUGUUUUUUUUUUUUUGUCAAGGUUAAGGAUUUGAGUAACUAAAGCCUCAAUAAAGUCUUUGAGGUAUCCACUAAGGAGCACAAGAAGUGCUGCAUGGGGGCGUGGAAGAAGAAUGUAAGUUACGUGUAUUUUGUAUUUAUAUUUAGUUGAUUGUUUGUGGUUGACAAACUAUUCAUGUAAUGACUUGCUCCCAACCAUGUAGAUAUUGUCCACUUUGGACCCAAAGGGGCCCUCACAACUUUAAAAUGCCUCUACAGAGUUAAGAAAAGUCCAUACUUAUAUAGCGCUAAGAACUUUCCCUCCUAUCAGAUGUGGGAUGUCAGAAACACCCUCUUCCCCAUGUAGACACAAUGUCCUCGUUGUGUCCCACGGGAUUGCAGGGCCAAACAAAUGAACACCCUUAUGGGGCUAAACAAAACCCGAACCGAGGUCGAAGAAUGACUUUGAUACCAUUUGUAAUGACCCGUUCCCAACCGUGUAGAUAUUGUCCGCUUUAGACCCAAAGGGGCCCUCACGGCUUUAAAACACAUCUACUGAGUUAAGAGAAGUCCAUACUUAUAUAGCGCUAAGAACUUUCCCCCCUAUCCAAUGUGGGAUGUCACAAACACCCCCAUCCCCCACCCCAUUAUAUAAAUGUAUAUUAUUAUUAUUAUUAUUAUUAUUACUUUCAAAAGACCCUACAACACCAUUACUCCAAGCCACCAACUACACCCAUUAUUUUUUGUUAUAAUAAUUUUUUUUUCUUUUGUUUCUUUCUUCUUGGACGUCCACACGCAUCCUUUAUUUUAUUUUAUUUUUUCUGCUUUUUCUAUGACAUCUCAUAUCGGAUAGGAGGAAGUUCCUGGCAUUGUAUAAGUAUGGACUCCUCGUAACCCUGUAGACGCGUUUUAAAGCCAUGAGGGCUUCUUUGGAUCCAAAACGAACAAUAUCUACACGGUUGGGAGCGGGUCGUUACAAAUGGUAUCAAAGCCAAUCCCCAACCUCGGUGUGGGGUUUGUUUGGCCCCGUAAGGGUGUUUGUUUGUUUGAACCCACAAUCCCGUGAGACACAACGAGGACGUUGUGUCUGCAUGAGGGUUGUUUGUGACAUCCCACAUCAAAUAGGGGGGAAAGUUCUUGGUGCUAUAUAAGUAUGGACUCCUUGUAACACUGUAGACGCAUUUUAAAACUAUGAGGGCCCUUUUGGGUCCAUAGAGGACAAUAUCUACACGGUUGGGAGUGGAUCAUUACAAAUGGUAUCAAAGCCGAUCCCUAAUCAUGGUGUGAGGUUUGUUUGGCCCCGUAAGGGUGUUUGUCUGUUUGACCCCACAAUCCCGUGGGACACAACGAGGUCGUUGUGUCUGCAUGGGGGUGGGGUGUUUGUAACAUCCCACAUCGGAUAUGGGGAAAAUUUCUUGGUGCUAUAUAAGUAUGGACUUCUCAUAACCUUGUAGAUGCAUUUUAAAGCUGUGAGGGCCCCUUUGGGUCUAAAGCAGACAAUAUUUACAUGGUUGGGAGCGGGUCGUUACAAUUCAUGGAUUUUACACCCCAAAAGGUUUUAAGUGGUUUUUUCAUGUUACAUUUUGUGUCAUAUGUUUGAUUGAUUAUUCCUAUUCAAAGAAUUGAUGAAAACUUAAUUAUAAUUGAUAUAGCUAGGUGUUUAGGAAUGUUUCUGUUUAAAGUGCUUUUAAUUUAAUUGUUUUUUUUAGAAGCAUUUUUUUAAAGAAUCACCUCUCAAGAGCUUCUCCAAAAAGCAUUACAAGUGAUUUUUAACUUUUUAAAGAAUGUUUUCUAAGUUUUUCCAAGUGUAUAGUUUUUCUCUAAAAGCAUUUUUUUUUUAAUACCAAAAGCAUUUUCUAAAAGUACUACUAAAUGGACUCUUAACUUUUGAGGAUAUUUCACUUAGACAACCCAUUCACCCCGCUCACUAUAUAGUUUUAUGUCUCAAGAUAAAAGUUCUCUCCUUUAUUUUAACAUAAUCUUUGUUUGAAGAAUUGUUCUAAUUUUUACUUGACUUUUGUUUUUAAUAUGUCUUCCUAAGCUUUUAAUGAUCCCAUAAAUUGGUCAAUGGCUAUAGAAUCCAAAUAUUUAGGCUUUUCAAUAACAAAAAAAUAAAAGAUGAAAACUUUUUUUUUUAAGUUACACAAAUAUCAUUAAACUUUCACCAUUUAUUUUUACUUAAUUUACAUAUGUCAAUAUUUUUGAAAAAUAAUCAAAGAUUAUCUUAUAUUUAAACUUUAAAAUUCACUUUUAAAAGUAUGAAAUUGAACUUUUAAAAAAAACACUUAUCAACACUUUUAUAUUUUUUUGUAAUAUUUUUCAUGUUUCCUUUGACAUGGUUGCACUUAAAAUCAUUUCAAAGGUGUCUACAUCUAUUUCUUAAUAAAUGAGGUUAAAAGCCUUCUUGUCUUUCUUUCUUAUAUCUUCGAAAAUUCUAUUUAAUUUUGGGAUAGAUUGGUUUUAUCCUAUAGCUCCUUGUAGUUUUUCUCUACAAUCUCUUAUAUAUCUUGCAACCAAAUAAAACCUUUGUCUUGACAUUCAAAUCGUCAAAAUUGUUAAAACUGUCUUUAUUGAGUUAAGCAACCUAAUUGAAUUACACGUCUUUUGAAAAAUAAAAUAAAAUAAGAAUCCUAUUAUACGCCUAAAUUUCGUGAAAGUCUUGCAACAUAUAAGGGGUAGGCCUUGAAGUUACAGUGACAAUUUAUUCCACUCAAAAUUUUGAUCUCUACAUUGAUAUCAUGUUUUUUUUUUUUUUUGGGGAGGGGGGGGGGGGGAGUAAUAGGGAUAAAUACACAAAUAAUAGUACUAUUAAAAGAGAUAAAUAGAGGAGGAAAUUAAAAGAAAUUUAUUGUGUUUUUAAUACUUUAAUUGAAGUAUUAUAUACACAACUCUAACUACAAUAUGUUUUAAUUCACUUUUAAAAACUAAAUCAAAUGUAAUUUUUGAAAAUUUCUUGAAACUCAAAUUUAGAUUUCAACGUGUGAUUGAAUGAUAGGGAUGAUAAAAAAUAGGUAAAUAAAACAUAUGUAAUAUUAUUGUAUAGUAUUAAUUGCUUCCAUACCAUUAGCAUAUCAAUGGCAUAUUGCCAUAUUCACAUGAACUGACUUUUUGUUUGGAGUAGUGUUUUAGUAGAGUAUUCGUAGUACACCUAGAUAUAGCCUAUGGGUUGCAUUAAUUAAUGGUUUUGGCCCAACUUAACAAAAUUCUAUGCUAUCAUAAAGUAGCUGAAUGCCCAUGAUUGCGCAAUGCCAUCAUAAAGGAACUGAAUGCCCAACACACAUACAUGUGAGGUACCAUAUUUUUUAAGAAAGACAAGUCGGUUUGCAAUUGAUGUUAAUAUCUUUCCAAGGCAGAAACAUCAUUUUGUAGGUAUAAUUGAAUUAGUUAAACUUAAACCCCAAUUGACAUUCUUUCAAGUAAAAUCAUUUUUAAUCUAUAAUACUCAACACUUUUAUGAGAACAAUAAAAGUAUCAGAAUCAUAGAGAAUUAUUGAAAGUGAUUUUGUAGUGUUGUUGAUAAUAUGUACCAUGACUAUAAAAAUGCUUUUAAUAUUAGUAAAUUAUCAAAAAGGACAUCAAAUUUAAUUACAAGGAAAUAUUAUAAUAAACUAAUACUUUUUCAUGAUAAAAGAAUAUAUAAACAUUUAUAGUAAAAUAAUAUAUAAACAUCUAUAUUACUAACGAAAACUAAAAAAUAAUAGUUGUUGUGAUUACAAGAAAAUUUUAGAAAAUAUUUGCAACAUGAUUUGGAUUAAUAAACAAACAUCAAUCAUAAUAUAAUAAUUUUUAAAACAAAAAAAAAAUCAUUUGAUUAUUUAUUCACUUAAAAAUAAUGAUUUUUUAUUACUACAAAAUUUUGAAAAAUACUUACAAAAAAUCUAGAUUAAUAAUGAAAAAUUGAAUAAAAACAUAUUAGUUUAGUUUCUAAAAAAAAUUAGUAAUUAAAAGCAAAUGAGAAGACAAAUUUUCUCAUAGUAAAAAAAGGAGAAAAUUAUUUAUUUUUUUCAUAUUAGUGUUAAAAUAAAACAUCAACAAGAUAUAUAACGACUAGCAAUUCGAUCACAUUCUUCAUACAUCUCUCUUGCAUGAUAGAACUGUCUUUCUCAACUCAUGAAUCCACUCUACUCUGUUUUUUAUUAAAGCAGAUGUAACCCUUGAUUAUCAUUAUAAGGUUUAAAUUUCAUAUCUAUCCUAGCAUUAAUCAUUAUUAAGUUGUAAAAACCAUCAAAGUAAUAACAAUGUUGACUUAUUUUUCAAGAGGAAAACUAUGCAUUUCUCAUAUUGUUCCACAUCUAUUCUUCAAAAAGGCAAAUGUUCAAUUGUUCUCCUCAAAGAUGUCUAUGGUUAAAUAUUUCCUUCUUACCUCUUGGUAAACUACUCCAUUGAAAUCUAGAAGAUGGUAACACUCGCCCUUUAAGGGCCUAAUUAUAUAUCCACUCAUGUAAGGAUAACCAACAUUGAGUAAAUAAUAUUUACCUACAAAACGAAAAAAAAAAAUUAUGUAAGAUUAUGAAAAUCUAAUCACAAAAGUAACUUUCAUAUUUUUAGUCACAAAUCUCUAGAAGGAUGAGGAAAACCCAAUGCUAGCAUUUUUUUAAUGCCUAUGAAAAGACUCAUGCAUCAUGAGCAAAACCUUCCCAUCUAGCCAAUGCGAAUGUGAAAUACAUAUUGAAAUAAUAUAUGACCAUAAUAUUUUAGGUAGUUAUGCUUUUUGUAUCAAUAUAUGAUAUUUGCCUAUAUCUAAAAACCAUAAUGGGCAUAUGAGUUCCAUCAAUUACCCCUAUACAAUUCUUAAAAUAUGGUCAAUAACGUCCAACAUUUCUUAUUUUAUCAAGGAUCUCCCUAAACUAUGAAUCACUUGGUUUUAUAAUAUCCAUAGCUAUAAGACAAACAACAUCUAAUAUAAUCUCAAACCAUCUAGAAAUAAAUUCAUUGGAGUGCUAAAAUCAUUCUUAGGUCGUCAUGUUGCCAAGUCUAUGACCCAUUGUAGUGAGAAACAUUGCUAAAGCCUCUAUUAAGGGCAUAUUUAAACCUUCUCUUAGACCAUGCCUUUUAAUAAGAGUUUCUAAUAAUUAAUGCAUACAUGUUUUUCCAUUCUAAAUUGCUCAACUCUAAUUUUGAAAAAGUACUACAAGGUUUUUAUUUUUUGUAGUUAGUAAGUGUUAUAGGUACAACACAUCCAACCAACACCAAUUGAUAAAAAUCAUUUCACCAUUGCUUUCAUCUUUAAUAUUGUGAUUGCAACUAUUAUUAUAACUAGAAAACAUAUAUACAAAAAAUAAAAAUAAGAAAUACAUUAAAAAAAACUAAUAAUGUAUAUUUUAUGUUAAUAUAGCUUAAACUAGUUCAUGUUUACUAAAAUAAAAGGAUUUUUUAUUUAAAAAUUUAUUUGAACAUGCAAAUUCAAGAGUAGUAGUAGUAUGCAAAAUAAUAGCACUGAAAAGUAGUAAGAGUAGAAAUACAUGUAAUCAUAUAAUUCUAUUUUUCCAUAAUAAUAAUAAUAAUAAUAAUAAUAAUCUAGCUCAUGUGGGUCACCCUAGAAUAGGACUCCUCCCAUAACACCCCUAUUUUCAAUCCAUUUCUAUUCUUAAUAGUUUGACUAAGCAAAAUUUUAAAUUCAAAAGUGUUGUGUUGAGAAAUCAAAUACAUUACAAAGCUCAUCUAAUUAGGAACUUGACUGAGACAAAAUUUUAUAUUCAAAAGUGUUGUGUUGUGAAAUCAAAUACAUUAUAAAGCUCAUCUAAUACUUACAACUUUUAGAGAAAGAAACAAUUAAAUAUACCAUGUGAUAGACAUAUAUGUAUUCCUCACUCAAAAAGUUUACUCAAUACCAACAUACAAAUCUAAUUUAAAACAAUAUUAGGUAGCAAAUUAUGUUUCAACAAUAGAAUAAGAAAUAACUCAAAUAGUGAAACAUAUUUCUGCUUAUUUCAUGCAAUUUGAUCAAUUGAGUUUUCUAAUGCUAGAAACAUCUCCUUAUUUCCCUUGACAACUUGAAUAACUAUGACUUUCAUGUACAACUUAAGGUCAUUCUUCACUUCAAGCAUGCCACAUAUAACUUUUAUUACUUUAGCAAUGCUAUAACCAAGCUUAUCUACUCUAGAUGUAACUUUAAAAAUGGCCUCUAACUGCAUAGUAAAAACACAAGAUUUGGUUCCAUCUCUUAUCUUCUUUCUUCUUCUCUCAUUUUGCUGUGAAAUUUAUUUCCUUGGGGUUCUCCUACAAAAGUAUUCAAUUUAUUAUAUUUCACGACCAAAAUAUAAAUUAAGUAAAUAAACUUAGUAAAUAAAUUAAAAUGUAUCUUCAAUUUAUUAUUCCCCCCAUUCAUUUUUAGCAUUAGUGGUUUGCCUCAUAGGAUCCCACCCAAGGCCAAUCUUUUUUUGAAUCAAGGCAUUCCAAAUUUGUCAAUCUUUUUUAAUAGAACUUAAUAUAUUCUUAGGUUUCUUAUAUUGGUAGGUUCUUCUAGGUAGAUUGUUGAAUACCUUUAUCACUUUUUUUCCAUCCAAUUUACUAAAGUGACUAUUUGGUCUAUUUUUAGCCAAAAUCUUAGCAACACAAACUGUGAGAUAUGCAUUAACAACAAUAUCAUUCAAUAUACUUUGCUUUAUUGAUCAUUUUCUUUACCACUUGUUUGUUGUAGUGGUUGAACUAUAUUGCUAGACAUCUAAUAACAAAGUAAAGAACAAAGAAGUAUUAAAAGCAAAUGUUGUCAAUGUACUUUUAUAUUUUAUAGUUUAGACAUCUAAUGAGACCCAUAAAAAAGUGAACCUUAAAGAAAUGGGUCAACUAGAGGAAAAUGAAUCUCGGAAUACUGAAUAGGAAAGACUCACAUUGAUGGAAUAAAUUAAUAUACUAUAUUGUAAUUUUAUUAAUUCUUUUCAUUAGGUUGCUAAAAGUUGAAAAAGAAUUUCUCAUGAAACGGAUUAAAUAAUUUCCUAAUGAAAGAAUCCAAUCAUGGCCUCUUUAUGAAGUACUGAAUUAACUCGAUGAACUUAAAUAUCAUCUAAUAAAUUCUUUCAUGGUUUGUUUUUAUAACUUUAAUGUUACCAAUAUAGAAAGAAAUGAAACAUGUUUUAAAUAAUCUAAGAAACUAUGGUAGAAAAGUGGAAAGAUUUAAGGAUAAGAGGCUUUAUAUGAACUUUAAUAUUGUUAGUAACAGAGAGGCAAAUGAGAUAUCUCAAUAUUAAAUUAUGCAUAAUUAGUAUAAUUUUUUUAAAAUAAAUGAAAGAGAAUUUAGGAGCAAAAUAAGUAAUUAGAGUAUGAGAUAACAUGAAUGGUUAAAAUUGUCAAUCAUUUAAUUUAAGAUAAUUGUUAAUAUUUCACUACAUUUUCAACUCCAUGAAUUAAAGCAAAUGGAGGAAAUGAGUUGGAUUUCUUAAUAGUAUUAAGUUUUGGAUUGACACAAAAGUAGGGUGCUAGUGGACACUUGAAAUGAGGACCAAGUAACAAUUUCAGAUAGCAUUUUACUCAUCCAACAUAGUUAAAAUUUGCAAAACCCACUUCUGAUUUCGUACUUUUAUUGAAUAUAUGGGUAUAGUUUAACUUCAAAUCUAAUAUGAGUGUACUUUGAAUUUCCUAAAGCUUACAUAUUUAUUCACAUAUUAAAUCAAAGAGAAAAUAUUAACGUUUUUUACAAUUACAAUUUAUCAGGACUCAAGGUUUAAUUCCUAAACUUUUAAAGUGGGAAAAAAAGGUGUAAGGGAGAAAAAAGGAAAAGGAAAAUAAAGGAAAAAAAGAAAAAAGAAAAAAGAAAAAACUAUUAAAAGGCAUUACAAGCCUAAGAUGGGCAUAUCCAUGAUUGAGGUGCAAAUGGGGGUGACAAUUCAUGUUAGUGGAUAGUGUUUGUGUUGUGUCAAAGCCUAGGUAUUCUACUACAUAGCUCAACCCAACCCCAACACUACUAAUAAUCAUAUAAAAAAUAUAAACCUAAAUACUAUCUAAUUAUUAAACAAGUAACACAUUGUACAACCCGCUUAAUCUAUUUAAUAUUCAGGUUCUGCUAUUUAAUAAUCAGAUUAAGUUAGGUCUUCCAUAUGUCUAUAUGAUUAAUAUCUCAAGAAAAGAUGUUUUUGGCUCAAUUGACCUAUCUAUUUAGAAAUAAAUUUAAAAUGAGUCAAAUAUGGGUCAAACGUCUUAAAAAUAUAAUUAAGUUAAUAGCGAGAUUAUUAAAUAGGUUAAUUCGAGUCAAAUUUGUGUUAUGCAAGUUGACCAAAAAAGUACUUAUUUAUUAAAUGAGUUAUGUAAGUCGACACAAAUUUUUUCUAAUCUCAUUUAUACUUGACCCAAACCCAUGAAAAGCAUGUUAGGUUUGUGUCAUGCCGAGAAGUAUCAAACUUUGUCAUCCCUAGGUGCAAACAACUCUAAGACCCUAUUUUUAAGGAGAAUAUAUAUACUUGAGAUUGCUACAUUAUUUAGACUAAUCCACACCUACUUAUUAAGGGGGAAAAAUAAAAGAGGAGAAAGAUAGGGCACAGGAUGAUGGGACAAGGCACAAAAUGACAAGACGUAGGAUGGUAGGACGUAGGAUGAUAAGAAUCCACUUCAAUUAAUAUUUCCAUAAAUCAAGAGUAAUCAAAUAUUAAAAUAUUUUAUUCUCCUAAUUUAGGAUAUAAUAUUUAUUCUAAAUAAAUAAAGAGCAAUCAAAUAUUAAUAAUAUUUGAUUCUCUUAAUUUAAGAAAUAAUAUUUAUUUUCCUUAAUUUUAGGAUGUUUAUUAUUUAUUUCUUCUAUAAUUCACAAUGCAUUCUUGUAUAAAUUUAUGAAAAGAAAUAAUAAAAAUUCAUCGCUUCUAUUUUCAAAUUAUCAAAUUCUUCUUGGUAUUAGAGUUAGAGGAGGAGACUCAAACUUGGGUUUUCUCCAAAGGUGGUUGAAUACCCUAAAAGACUUGACCUAUCCACACAAACAAUGUCUUCCUCUUCAUUCAUUCAUUCAAAAAUAAAAUAAAAUAAAAUAAAAUCCUUAGUGCUCUAGCUUUCCAUCAACAUUUUUUCUAAUUUGAUUUCAAUCAAGCUAAACACAACAAAUUUUCUACUAUGGGAAAAUCAAAUCAUCCUCUUAGUUUGUGGCUUCGGUGUUCGAACCUUUCAUCAGUGUUUUACCCUUUCAUUCGUGUUAUUUCUAGUUUGAUUUCAAUCAAGUUAAACACCAUAAAUUUUCUACUGUGGCAAAAUCAAAUCAUCCUCUUAGUUCAUGGUGUGUUCUCCAACAUCUCUUAGGUGGAGAAAGACCCGCUAAAGAAUUAAAGAUGACGAGGAAAGAAAAAGUUUUAUCCUACAAUACUAGUAAUCAAUUAAUAAUAACAUAUUUGUCACUUCAUGAGUUCUCAAAACCAUGACAAAAGACAUUUUCAUUAUGAUCCUUGGGGCUAACAAGAUAUAUAAGGUAUAAACUUCUCUUAAGGAGUAAUUGCUUCCUAUUAUAGUUGAAAAAAAAAAUGAUCUCUUCAAGAAUAUUUAAGAGAUUUCAAAAAUAUAUAUGAUAAUCUCAUGACAAUCAAAAGCUAAUUUUAGACCAAGACAAAGUUUGUUGAUUCACUCAUGGUUUAGGAUAAUGGAAUGAUUUUUUUUUUUUUUUAACCUACUAUGCUUUUCUAACCAAUUCAUGGCAACUCUUUAGGGACAUAAGCAAUUACUCACCACCAAAAGGAUGGAAAGAAAAUUUUUAUAGAGUAUGCACAAGUUUUUAUUUGGACAACAUAGUUAUGGUCAUAAUGGUUGAAAAGGCAUAAAUUUUAAUUUGAGGGGAAGAAUCUUUACACUUUCUAUGUGUUACAAUUCUUUUAAAAAAAUAUACUUUUAUGAUUUUAUCAAGCCCUUGUCAAAGGAUAUCUUCAUCAUGUUUUGAGAUAAGUUGGGUGUGCAUAUUCUUUCCCACUCCAAUUUGAGCUUGCAUAUUAAGGGAAAGAAUAAAAUAAGACAAAAAGCACAUAGGAUGGCAACACGUAGGAUGAUAAAAAUCCACUUCAAUUAAUAUUUCCAUAAAUCAAGAGUAAUGAAAUAUUAAAAUAUUUCAUUCUCCUAAUUUAGGAUAUAAUAUUUAUUUUAAAUAAAUAAUGAACAAUCAAAUAUUAACAAUAUUUUAUUCUCUUAAUUUAGGAAAUAAUAUUUAUUUUCCUUAAUUUUAGGAUACUUGUUAUUUCUUUCUUUGUAUAAUUCACAAUGCAUUCUUGUAUAAAUUUUCUAAAAGAAACAAUAAAAUUCAUCAUUUUCAUUGCCAAAUUAUCAAAUCCUUUACUAAUGGCCUUAUGAUUAAAAUUGUUGUGAACUGAGGAAGCUUAAGAAUCUGUUAAGAAGGUUGCUGAGGUGUGAAGAGAGGCUGAAAUUGAGGCUGCAACCAUAAAACAACUUAGUCAAUGAAGCUAAUAGAGUUUCAUGGAGCUAUUACGUUGUUGUUGCUAUUUUAUAGGAAAUAGUUGUUAGUUCUAACUAUUUUUGCUGUUUUUCUAUUGUUUUCUAUUGCAAACUUGUGUAUAAAUGUUGCAUUGAUCAUUCAAUAAGAGUAGACAUUUUCGUUGUCUCAAAUACAACUUUUGGUAGUUGCUUCCAACACUUCUAGAUUCUAAAACCUACAGAUUGGUAUCCGAGCCUUCUAUCAUGAGAGACCUGUGAGGAUUGAGUGAAGCUAAAAUACCUUCACACAUACUGAACUCCAAAGCCAACAUAAACACACAACCUUUAACAGCUUGUAACUAUCAUUCCGCAGUAAAUGGAUGGAGAUACAAGCUUUCUGUCAGUACUAGUUUUCAAUGGUGAUAAUUAUCAGGCGUGGGCUAUUAGAAUGACAGUCCACCUUGAAGCUUUGGAUCUUUGGGAGGUAGUAGAAGAAGGUUAUGAAGUACCACCACUUGGAGACAAUCCAAGUAUCAAUCAAAUGAAGAUUCACAGGGAAAGAAAAACAAGGAAAGCCAAAGCCAAGGCUUGCCUCUUCUCUGCAGUUUCACUUUCCAUUCUCACCAGAAUCAUGCAAAUGGAGUCUGUUGUAGCAAUCUGGGAGUAUCUAAAAAAAUGAGUAUCAAGGGAAUGAAAGGGUGUAGAAUAUGCAAGUAAUGAAUUUAAUAUGAGAAUUUGGAAUGAGCAGAAUGAAAGAGUCUUAAACUAUCAAAUAUUAUGCUAAACAACUACUUAGCAUAGCAAACAAGGUAAGAUUGUAUGGUAAGGAAUUUUCUAAUGAAAGAAUUGUUCAGAAAAUCUUAGGAACUCUGCCUAAAAAAUAUCAAGCCACAAUCUCUUCCUUGGAAAACUCUAAAGAUUUGUCAAGUAUAUCUUUGGCAGAAAUUGUUAAUGCUUUGCAGGCCUUGGAACAAAGGAGAAUGAUGAGACAAAAAUGAUAUGUUGGGAACAUUCCAAGCCAAAUCACAAAACAAUGAUUCCAGCAAAGAAAGAAAGAAAAACAAGAAGAACAACAAGUCAAGCCUUAACAAAAAGAAUCAGAAAGGAGCCCAUCCACCUUGCCCUCAUUGCAAAAAAACGAAUCAUCCUCCACAAAAGUGCUGGUGGAGGCCAGAUGUCAAGAGCAACAAUUAUGGUCAAUUAGGCCAUAUGGAGAAGAUAUGCAAAACAAAAUAAGAAGGAGAGAUCAAGACUGCAACUACUGAUCAAUAUCAUGAAGAACAGUUGUUUGUUGCCACUUGUUUUGCUAGAAAAAACACAUCUGAAAGUUGGCUCAUAGAUAGUGGUUGCACAAACCACUUGACUUACGAGCAAGGACUUUUCAGGGAACUCAACAAAAUAAUCAUUUCCGAAGUAAGAAUUGGAAAUAGGGAAUACAUCUCAGCAAGGGGCAAAAGGACUGUUGCCAUUGAAAGUCUCUCAAGUUUGAAACUUAUCCCUGAUGCUUUGUUUGUUCCUAAUAUUGAUCAAAAUCUCUUAAGUGUUGGGCAACUACUUGAGAAAGGUUUCAAGGUGCUAUUUGAGGACAAGUUCUAUAUGAUCAAGGAUGCAAAUGGAAAAAAUGUGUUCAAGAUCAAGAUGAGAGGUAAAAGCUUUGCCUUGAAUUUUCUUGAGAAAUAGCAGGCUGUUGUUUCUCAAGAAAAUAAUAUCACAACUUUAUGGCACAAGAGAUUGGGGCACUUUCAUCAUAAUGGAGUGCUCUACAUGAAGAAGAAUCAACUUGCAGUAGGUCUACCUAACCUGAACCAAAAUCUUCCUACUUGCAUAGCCUAUCAGUAUGGAAAAUAAUCCAGACUUCCUUUCCCACAGAAAUCUACAUGGAGAUCAUCACACAAGCUGCAACUUGUACACAUUGAUGUUGGAGGACCUCAGAGAACACCAUCUUUAAAGGACAGUAAGUACUAUAUUGCCUUUAUAGAUGAUUAUACCAGAUAUUGUUGGAUUUUUUCCUAAAUUUUAAAUCUGAGGUUGUUGAUGUAUUUUGGAAGUAUAAGACCCUAGUAGAAAACCAAAGUGGUGCCAUCAUGAAGGUUAUAAGGACAGAUAAUGGCACUAAAUAUACUUCUGAAAGAUUCAACAAUUUCUAUUAAGAAGCAAGCAUAGAGCACCAACUGACUGCACCUUACAUACCACAACAGAAUGGAGUGGAAGAGAUGAAGAAUAGGACUAUAAUGGAGAUGACAAGAUGCCUUUUGCAUGAGAAAGGGCUACAAAAAAAGUUCUAGGUUGAAGUUGCAAACACUGCAGUGUUUCUACUAAAUAGACUCCCAACCAAAGCUUUGCAAAAAAAGACUCCUUUUGAGGCUUGGUUUGGAUAUAAACCUCUGUUAUUAAAAUUAAAAACAUUUGGUUGCCUUUGUUUUAGUUAUGUGCCUUAGGUGAAACAAGACAAGUUGGAUAAAAAGGUACUCAUGCUGACAAAUUCAUUGUUAGCAUAGAUGUCAAAUUCAUGGAGGAUGAUAAAUGGAGUUGGGAUGCUACAAAAAAUCAGAAUUUUGAGUUCCUUGAUGAAAAUAUUGAUGACAUUCCUGUAAGAAGCACCAAAUCACUUUUUGAUAUUUAUCAAAUGUGUAAUAUGGUUGUGUUUAAGCCUGCAGAGUUUAAUGAAGUUGUUGAGGAUAAAAAAAAGAAGGGUUGUAAUGCGGGAGGAGCUCAACAUGAUAGAGAAAAACAACACUUGGGAGUUAGUUGACAAACCAAUACAUAAAAAGGCCAUUGGUGUCAAGUGGGUUUAUAGAACCAAACUCAAUUAUGAUGGUUCUAUAAACAAACAUAAAGCCAGGCUGGUUGUCAAAGGUUAUGCUCAAAUGUUCGGUGUGGAUUUUUCAGAAACCUUUGCACCUGUAGCUAGGUUGGAUACAAUAAGGAUGCUGCUAGCUUUGGCUGCUCAAAAAGGUUGGAAAAUCUAUCAGCUAGAUGUAAAAUUAGCUUUUCUAAAUGGCUACCUUGAGGAGGAAAUCUUUGUGGAGCAACCUAAAGGAUUUGCAGUAAAAGGCAAAGAAGACAAGGUUCUUCAACUAAAGAAAGCCUUGUAUGGCUUGAAGCAAGCCCUUAGAGCUUGGUACAAUAGGAUUAAUGCACAUCUACUUGGUUUGGGGUUUAAAAAAAGUCAGAGUGAAUCCACACUUUAUAUUAGAAAAAUUAAUGUUGACAUACUUAUUAUUUCAUUAUACGUUGAUGAUUUGCUUGUAAUAGGAAGCAAUCAAUGUUUAAUGGAUAAAUUCAAAGCUGAAAUGGAGAAGGUCUUUGAGAUGACAGAUCUUGGAGACAUGUCUUAUUUCCUGAGAAUGGAAGUGCAUCAGAAUCAGCAUGAGAUAUUCAUCUGUCAGCAGAAGUAUGCAAAGGAAAUUCUAAAAAAGUUCAAGAUGGAGAAAUGCAAGCCCAUAGCCACACCUAUGAAUCAAAAAGAAAAGUUUUGCAAAGAAAAUGGUGUUGAAAAAGUAAAUGAAGAGUUAUAUAGAAGCAUGAUUGGAUGCUUGAUGUAUUUGACUACAACAAGGCCAGAUAUAGUACAUGUUGUAAGUUUACUCUCAAGAUACAUGCAUUGUGCUAGUGAAAUUCACUUGUAGGCAGCAAAAUGUAUUGUGAGAUAUAUAAAAAGCACUAUUGACUUUGGCAUCAAGUUCAAGUAGGUACAGAAUUUUCAUUUUCAUGGAUUUUCUGAUAGUGAUUGGACUGGCUGCGUUGAUGAUAUGAGAAGCACAUCAGGUUCUUGCUUUAGUUUUGGUUCAAGUUUUUUCUCUUGGUGCUCUAAAAAAGAGGAUAUCGUGGCACAAUCCACAGUUGAAGCAAAGUACAUUGUUGCUGCUGCUGCUGCAAAUCAUGCACUUUAGAUAAGAAAGCUGCUAACAGACUUAAACAUGGAGCAAACUGGGAGCACACAAGUCAUUGAUGACAAUCAAGCUGCAAUUUUAAUUGCAAGUAAUCCAGUAUUCCAUGGUAGGACAAAGCACUUCAAAAUCAAGUUUUAUUUCUUAAGGGAAAUACAACAUGAUGGAGAAGUAACUUUGGUACAUUAUAAAACAGAAGUACAAAAUGUUGAUAUUCUAACAAAAGCUCUACCAAGAACUAGGUUUGAAUUUCUCAGAAAAAGACUUAGAGUUUGUAGCUCCCAAGUCAAGGAGGAGUGUUGAGAAAAAUGCCUUAGUAGCUACAAUCAUGCUGGAAGACGUGUGAAAGUUGCUGUGAACUGAGGAAGCUUAAGAAUCUGUUAAGAAGGUUGCUUAGGUGUGAAGAGAUGUUGAAAUUGAGGUUGCAACCAUAAAACAACUUAGUCAACGAAGCUGAUAGAGUUUCAUGAAGCUAUUAUGCUGUUGUUGUUAUUUUAUAGGAAAUAGUUGUUAGUUCCAACUAUUUUUGUUGUUUUUCUAUUGUUUUUUGUUGCAAACUUUUGUAUAAAUGUUGCAUUGAUCAUUCAAUAAGAGUAGACAUUUUUGUUGUCUCAAAUACAACUUUUGGUUGUUGCUUCCAGCACUUCUAGAUUCUAAAACCUAUAGAUUCUAUGAAUUUUAAUGAUAUUCCAUCAUUUCUAGGCCUCUCAAACCUUCAAAUUAGUAGGGUUACAAAACAUAAUUUCUCAAACAACAUUCUUUCCAUAGUCAUAUCUCUAGCAUUGCUAUAACCCAGGAUCAUCAAGGACCAAGACAAAACAUUCUUGUUUGCCAUCUUCUCAAACAACUCAAAUGUUGUAUUUAUCUUUCCUACCUUAACAUACCCAUCAAAUAUUAUAUUCCAACUAAUAACAUCUCUAUUUGGCAUUUCAUCAAAAGCCUUCCUCACAUUUUCUUGAUCCACAUGGGCAUAAAUCACUCUCAACUAUUAACACAAACAACAUAGAUUUUAGCUAAUUACAAACCAAAUUGAUAUAUCACCCCUAGUAGUUGUAAUUUCCUUCAUUAAUUACCCUCCCAUUUCCACAUCUCUUUUUUUAUGCAACUCAUAAAAAAAUUUCAUGAAAUUUGAGUGUAGGUAGGAGAAAGCACGAAUCUCAGUGCACAAAAAUUUGAUUUCAAUCAUUCAAAAAAAAAUUAAUUUUAUGGAAAAACAUUAUAAUAGUAAAAUAACAAAUUGAGAAGGACUUUCUAAGAAAAUAUAAUCAAAGGAAAACAAGGUAAUCAAAAGACUCAUAUAAUGUUUUACUUCCAUUUUCUAAGUAACUAAAUAGAAAUGUGGAAAGGAAAGUACCUCCAACUAUGGAUGUAAAGAGUCAUUGUUAAUGAGAAAAUGGUGAGAAUUGGAAUCAUGAAAAGUGUAGAAGAAGACUGCUUGGACUAUGGAGAGUGAAGGAGAAAGAUAAUGCUUGUUGAAAGGGAAAUAGUGGGUUAUUGGGCAACACUUAGGGUUAUUUUAGGUAUAUUUGAAAAUUUUAAAAGUAUUUUUUAAAUAAUCACCUCUCAAGUGCUUUUCUAAAAAUUACUUCAAGUGAUUUUUUUCUUUUGAAGGUUCUUAAAAGUGUUUUUGAAAUCUUGCCAAACAUCUACUUUUCAUCCAAAAAAACUCUUUUAAUUAUUAAAAAUGCUACACUCUUCUUAAAAAUACUACUAAACAAGUUCUUAAUAGGAUUUUAUUUAUUAUCACAUGUUUCUUAGUCUUUAACCAAGGACAUGUCUAUACUAUAUAAUAAAAGCAGAGAUACAACUUUAUUCUAACUAUUUUUCAACCUUACUUUCUUUAAAUACCUACUGAAAUGUAAUUUUAUUAUUAUUCAUUAAUUAAACCAUUAAGAAUGGGAUUACUAUGAUUUCACCCCAACUCCAACUCCCUUUUCUACAAAAAGUAAAACUAAUUUUUUGGGAAUACGUAUGCAAAGUAAUGGCAUAGAUGAAGUUGUAAAUGGAGAUUAAUGGAAAUGAUAGAAGCGGGAUUUUGCUAGGGUUUUAGAGCCAAAGAGGAUGGGUUGGUUAUGGUGGGUCUUAAGGGAAGUGAUAGAGAAGUUGGGAAUUGAGGUUAGAUUUAAUGUUAAGGUUAGGGCUAGGGUUUCAUCAAUGGAUGGUGAUGAAGAUGAAGAUAUGGACAUCCCUUGCAAAAUCUACCAAUAUAAUUAGUUUAUACUAUAUAAUCAACUAAAAUUUGAAUCAAUUCUCCUUCUCAAACUAUGAUAAUAUGAUUUUAGAUGAUUUUUGAUAAUGAUUUCUUUUCCUCUCAAUGAAGCUGUAGAUCAAUUCUAUGUUUCAACUUGAAUAAGGGAUCCUUAGAAUCUCUCAAUAUUUAGUUUCUAUUUAGAUUAGGGAAUAAAGGAUCCCUAAGAUCUUUCAAUCUUUAAUAUCUAUUUAGUUUCCUAUAUAAAAUAAGAAGAGUGUAAUGGGGAAAGAAACGAAAAAAUAAUCUCAAUAAGAAAAAUUUGUUCUCUCAAUUUUGCAUCUUCUCCUUGAGUCAUAAGAAUUGGUGUUAGAACACGGUCUUGGCACCAAUCAUGGAUGAAGGGACUAGAGUGUAAGAACAACAUAGACUUGAAGAUACUAUUAAACAGUUGAAAGAAUCAUUGGAUAAACAAGCGACUACCUUAUUAGAACUAUCAAAGAUGGUUGCAACCAUAAACUUGAAAUUCAAACACAUGAAUUUAAGAAUAGAGAAGUCAAGUAAUGGGUACAGUGCCUCAAUCAAUAGAAGCAAGACAAACUAUCACUCACAUGGGAUAAACUCCAUUCAAACUAGUUUUCCAAACUCAAUUUUCAAAAUUUUGAAGGUGAGAAUUGGGAAUCAGGAAAAGAUAGGAUUGGCUUCCUUACAUUUAAAAGGAAGGGCCUUAGAAAGGUUUCAAGGGUACAAGGUUAGUAACAAGGAAAUCAAAUGGACACAAUUUUAUAUAGAUGUUGUUUCUAGGUUUAGGCCUAAUGUUUAUGAUAGCCUUAUGGGGUAAAUAACCAAUUUGAAAUAGGUUUCUACGGUUAUGGCAUACAAAAAUUAGUUUAAAGUAUUGAUGAUCAAAACUAGUGGGUUAUUGAAGGAAUUUUUUGUCUAGUGUUUCAUUAGUAUCUUGAAAGAGGCAAUUAAAAAUCAAGUCACCAUGUUUCAACCGAUCACAUUAGCCCAAACCAUCGAGUUAGUCUUGUUGCAAAAAUAAAUAGUGGAAGUAAUUCUCAAGGAAGUCAAGGACUCUAACGAAAGUAGGGAUAGUACAAUGAACUUUACAAGAAUCAUUAUGAAUCAUAAUAACAAAUUGCCACCCCUUAAGAAGAUUUCAGUUGUAGAAGUGCAAGAGAGAAGAAAAAAAGUUUUUUUUAUUAUUGUGAUGAAAAGUAUGAGUCUGGCUAUAAAUAUAAAAUGAGACAAUUUUUUCUAUUAAAUGGUCAUAAAAGUGAAGGGAAAGUGUGGACCCGCAUUUUUCACGUGUGUUCCCACUCGAUCGGCGAGACUCGCUUUUUAUUUGUGAAAAAUUGAUUUUUGAAAAAAAGUUGGAGUCGCCACCUAUUUUAUUUUUAUUUUAAAGGGAAAAUAAAACAAGAAAGAAAAACCCUAAAAAGUGACUCCAUAGUUUUGGAAAAAGCAUGUCUUUGAGAAACCCGAGUCUAGGUCCGGGGAUUAGGUUACUUAUUGGGAAGGUACCUCUAGGAGAUAGCACCCCUCUAAGCCCUAAAGAGGUCCCUACUGACUAAGUUAAGGGAAGUGUGGCCAUUAAUCAGUUAAUUAUGGAUACCUAAGUAGGUUAGGUGAUUUUAAAGUGUGGCAUGUCAAACGCAAUCAAAUUGCAAUAAAGAAGAGUUAGGGUGCGUACCUGAACCGUUCUUCAAGCGCUAUCAUAAAACAUAAAAGUUAGUGUAGAAAUGUAGCACACAACAUUUGUUUUAUUUAAGCAAAUCAAGCAUAUAUCAAGACAUCCAAGAAUCACGUCAAAUAUGGAUAUGGUCAUCAAUGACAUACAAGUCCAUAGAGUUCUUAAAAAAAUAGAUGAGAAGAGAGCGUACCUGGAUAGCAAGCUAGUACUCCUCUAUGGGAAACAGGAGUAUUUCGAUAAUAAAUACAAAACAAAUUCAUGUAUAUCAUCAAGAAGAAUCAAGGAUCAACACAUCAAACAAACAAUAUGGAAGAGAAAAUCAUGAAUGUAGGGCCCCCACCAAAGCCCUAAUUAAUUUUGCAUGAGUUGGUUCCAUAAAUUCCAUGAUUUGGAAUUAUGAAGUUUAUUCAUGCUUGUUGAAAAUCAAGAAGAUCAAUUGAAAAUCAAAUAAAAUAGUGAAAAUGCGUGCCGGAAGGAAAAUGGCAGCCAAGAAUUUAUUAAAGGUCUAGAUUUAAAUGUCUAUGAACUCCUAAGGAUGAAAUUUUAAAGGAAAUAAGAGUUAUUCAAUGGAAAAUAUAUUGAAAUCCAAAUUUAAAAUGAAUGUGUAAAUUCACAAGGGAACGGAAGGAGCAUCAAGAGGACAAGUGAAUCAAGCCAGCCAUGUUGGAGAGGGCCCUGUGACUAUGCUACUUAAUCUCUGUUUGUGCCUGGACAAUUGAACCUUUCCUAUAGUUUCUUCUUCUGUCUUUCGAAAUUCUCUGUAUUGAAGCAUGCCUCAAGAUGAAUUAGAAUUGUCCUGUUUGACGAAAACUCCCUUAAUAGAAACGGGAAGAAGAUCUGUAUCCCCAUUAAAAGCUCUACUAAUUCCAUAACAGUUCCAGAAUUCUGCAUCAAUUGGCCUCUUAGCUGAACAAACAAACAAAGUCUGUAUGUGCUUCCUAUUUAUCCAUCAAGGGCAAAUUGAAGAUUUCCCUGAUGUCACAUCGCGAGCUUCGUUCCAUCCAAAUCCUUCAUCAUUCAUCAGUAAUUAUAUCAAUUCUAGAAUAGCAGGGGUAGGGUGUGUAUUUUUCAAUUGCGCUGCUACCUUACUGGGAAAUUCAGACCAUUGCCACGAGUCCUCAUCUAUCCUCUCCAUGAAUCUGAAAAUAAUGUCUUGAAGUGGGGCAUUGCAUAGGAAAAAUUAUUGUUUUAGUAGUGAGAGCUUCCCAAUUUCGAUGUAGAGAAGUCAGUUGCAUCCUCCCAAUCAUCUGGCUUGGCCUUAGGCUGAUCAUCUUUAUAUUCUUUUGGAGGGUCAACACACUCGACAUUGCCAUCAUCAUAACUGCUGUUCUGACCUAAUGUGGCAUUCUCAUACCUAUUGCAAUCACCUUCUCCAUUCUCAGUUGAGAGCUUCAAUGCUACAACAUCUAAACAGGUGAGCAACCUCCUCCCCUGAGCCAGUGUUUUUUAGUCCCUCGAAUCAUGAAAAAUAGAAACUGACCAAGCAAAAUCAAGUAAACCAGUAAAACCCAAGCUUUGUCUAAGGCCAAGGCUAACUAAAGUCUCCAAAGUUUCAGGAUCUGAGAACUUGUCAAGGGGGAAGAAAACUUCUCUGUGAAGCAUGUCUUGCAAUUCGGGAACUCGAGGAUCAUAUAGCCUGGAUGGUUGUUGCCAUGACCCAUUGGCAGCCAAAACAAAGGGUGUGAUGGAAAGUGUAAGUUUAAUUGAGGUAUCUUCUUCAAUCAAAAGUUUCACAUCAUGUAAAAUGGCUGAAAGUGCUCCCUGCUAUGAAAGAAAUUCUGGCAUGCAAGUGACUACAUAAUCUUUGUAGAAUUCUGCCCUUGAAGGUUCCUUAACCUCUAAAUACCUUCUUAGGAUGAUUCUUUCUUUUUCUGAAUCCGUGCGUACAAAGUCAUCAUUCAAAAGAUCUUCAGACACACCAUUUGGUUUAAGCAAUUUAGUGGGUUUACUCAAACAUACUAGUUUUCUACUUCUGAACGAUUCAAACAUGGGAAGGUGUUUGAUGACAUCAAUAUGUGUGUCAUCCAUCUGACAUUCAGAGAACCACUUUGACUGAAGAAUAAAACUCCUGAGUUCAUGAAGCUCCCCUUCUGAUGCAUCACAGAAAAGUUUCUGAAAAUUCUCCGGAUUAUGAGCAAGUGCCAGUAAGGCAUUCAAAAUGCUAGUUGCUAUUGGCAGCUGCACAUAAUUUUUCAACUGUGGAUGCUCUAUAGGCAGGUCAUUCCUCAAAAAUAGGCAUCCUACUUUCAAUAACAAAGAACACAUGUUCUCACUCCACCCAUCAUCUUUUAUCACAUUUGAAUUUUCAAUCAGCUUCAAGAGAUAAUUAUUCCCAACUGGUAAAAUAGGCCACUUCGAAAAUUCUGAGAGAUCAUCACAACAUGACUUCAAAUAACUCCAUAGCAGCCUUAACCAUUCUAAACUUGGUUGGCCUUGAUGACCAGGGUUCCAAAUUACCUGUUUGGCAUGCUGCCACUCUGUUGGGAGUAAUCUUAGGAAAAGUUUUUCAAGCAAAUAACAUGUCAGAAAAGAAAUAUUUAAGUCUUCUAUUUGGGCAAUAUCACAUAGCUUCAUAUGAAUUCCUUCCGGAAUUCCAGAGUCUACAAGUUGAUGUGGAAUUGAAUCCUUAAGAAGACCAUACUCAUCUCCACGUGCAAUAUAAAUCCUUUCACCCACUCUCAUCUUGUCAAAUGCUGUAAAUAAACCAUUGGCAAGGGGUACCAAAGGUAAACCAUACAAACUAUCAGAUCGAACUGGCAUUUUCAAGUCAAGUAAGCAAUAUUCAAGUGUCAAUAUCAUUGCAUUCCUGUCCCUAAAUCCACGUUUCCGCCGAAUCAACAGAGUUCUCAGCAACUGAGGUGUCAGGAAACGCAAUGAUGGACAAAACUCCAUAAGCCUCUCGACAAGUGGCUUAGAAGGAGAAACGAGAGGUAGACCAGCAUCAGAUAAUACUUCUACAAGCUCAUGUGCCUUACUGAAAGUAAAAUCAGGAAAAACAGCUUGUUUGACGGAAAUCCACUGGCCCCCUCUAGCUUUUGUAUACAAUACAGAAAGACCAGAAUCAGCAAUAAAAUUAUAGAGUUUCUGCACCAUUGAUGCCCAAGGUUCUAUUCCAAUGCUAGUUGACCAAAAUGAAAAGAACAAAUCACAUGGACCAAGUUCCAAUGCAAUUUUCUCAAGCAAAUGACCAUAAGCAGGGGCAGCAGCAUCUUCAAGCAGGUAAAUGUUCCAUUCCGAGCAUUUUUUUUUCACCCCCUGCCAUGUCAUUGCCAAACCAGAUAUCCCUUCGAUUUGAUGACAAUUCAAAAUAUGCAUUAACAUGUGCUGGAAGACCAGUACUGAUCGGCAGUGGUAAAAAGCAGAAUGCACAACCCUCAAAAUUCUUUCUAUCUUGAAUAGAAGAAGCAGGAACUUUAAAGACAUCAGAAAUAGUUUCACAAGUUCUCUCAGUAUGUGGAAUAUCACUCGAUUCCCUAUCAACCUUGACAGAGUGUAAAUAUGCAGCAACACAAGCCCAAGGAAUUAAAUUAUGAGACUUCGAGGGUACAAAGCUCUUAACUUGCCCAACACCUAAACAUUCACUGGUUAUCCAAAAGUGUGACAUAUUUUUUUGACGAACUUUGCUCUAUCAUCACAAUCUUCUGACAUUUCCAUGGCAAAUUCUUAUCAACUGAUUUACUCAAUUUUUUUAGAAACUAAUCCUUAUCCAUUCCACUGUGAUGAUUUCCAUUAAAAAUGCUGAACAUAUGUAGAGAAUUGGGUUCAAUGUCAGGUUCACUGAUGCAAUGUUUAUGAACACGAUGUACGAGUUGCAUUUCACAACCAGUUUCUUCCUUAACAAAAAUGGAGAUGGUUUUCACAUUACGGACGAAAAGUAAAGCCUCUGAAACAACCUUAGAAAAAGAAGCAAAGAGAGACAUGACAUCUUCAGGUGCAUAGCCUUCUUUCUUUAUUUGGCUUCGAGAAGCAACACUUGCAUUCUUGAGAGGAAAACGAAAGACUGUGCCAGGAAAGGGAUUCUGCAAGUCAUAGCCAAAGUGUAGGAAUGGAAAGAACUGAUCUGGAAAUUGUUCCAGAAUCCUUCUCCCAACAUAUCUAAUUCUUAAACUAGGGUGGGAUGGAUAGAUUCCAGGCAAAUUACAGGCAUGAGGAUCAAACAUAACAAUAUUUUCCCCAGAAACAAAAGUUGGUAUGUCUGUAAAAUGAUAAACACAAUUAAAUCCCAGCCCAAAUCUUCCAAUAGCAAAUGGCUUCUCUAGCUUGCUUUCUUGACCAAUCCGCGAAAUUGCAUAAAGAUCUUGUGGACUGAAAACAGAGUCAUUGAAACAGUACAAAGCAGAGCCUUGCCAAUCUGCCAUUUCAGGAGAGAGGAUGGAAGAAGUCCCAUACUGGGUUUUCCGCGGUCAUCCCAUCUUUAAAUCUUCGAAGCUCUGCUUUCUCUCCCCAAAAAUUCCGGAAUUUAAGAGCCUCAUCUUUAUGCUCAGCAUUUGGACAAGCAUCGACCACUCUAAAAGCUUUCUCUAAAGAGCUGACUAAAAUCCCAAUGAGCAAUGGCCCUCGCUCAAAGAUCGAUAAGCCAUUUUCCACAUUGCAUUCUGAAGUGGCAUUUUUCCAACUAACACGGAUGAACUUUGCUCUAAGAGAACCAACAUUUCAUCAUAAAACCCAAUUGAUCCAAAACAGGAAACUAAGGAAUUAAUCAAAUCUUCUCUCUGGACAUUUCUUCGAACACACCGUAAGCACCUCAAAUAGAUUCAAAUACCAUACAGGAAGAGGGAUAGAGAACAAAUAAAAAAAGAAAAGAUAUAAAACCCGGAGACGAAGAAAGCGGAAGACAUUGAUCAAUAAACAUAAAUAGCUCCACUUCAAAUGUUAAUCCGUGGGCUGGGGACAGAGGAAGCAAUGCAGUAUAGGAUUUUUAACAAAAAAAAACAUGAUCAAAUUCAAGCAUGGAGUCAUGAAUUUCAAAAGACAACAAUGACACAUGCAAGAAUCAGAAUCUAAAACAGGGCAAAGAAGUGAGUAACCAAUCUCAAGAAAUCAAUUUGUGGCCCUUUCCGUCCACACCAAUCAUCAGUAUAUUAAAUGUUCAGAAACAAACACACGGAGAAAUCAAGUAUGGGUAAGAAUUCCAAGAGUGGCGAGAAUCAUACCUGGGCAGCCUUGGUUGCAAUUGCUCUCUUCUCCAAUUCCUUUUUGCUUCUCCUCAAGACGAUCCCUCAAAUCCCCUCUCUCUUUUUCCUCUCUCACAUAUAUAUCAGCCUCCCUCAAAGAACCCCCCAAAUCUACUGGAGGAAAAUCCACUUUCCUUUCAUAUUUUCUUCCCUUUUGUAACCGAUUCCCUCAUGGAAAUAAUAUACGUGCUAUCCUUCUAAAAACACAAUCUCCUCUUUUCAAAAUUCUGUUGAUUUUCCUUCCAAAUAAAUGGCAAUCGUUUCCUCAUGCCCAAAAAAUAAAUAAAUAAAUAAAUAAAGAUACAAAUAGAAAUAAGAAUAAAAUAAAGACAAAAUAGAAUAAAGAUUAAAAUCAAUAAACAUCAUGAAAUUGGAAAUCAAAAGAAAUUUAAAUCACACAUCUAAAAAAUAAAAUAAAUAAACAAAAAAUAAAAAAUAAAAAUAAUUAAAAACAAAAAAUAAAAUAAAAAAAUCAACCACAUGCAAGCCAUACAAGCUAUGUAACCACCAAAAGAAUAUGAGUCAUGCAACCAUGCAAAAACACGAGCCAUGCAACCAUGCGAACCAUGCAAAAACAUCUAAAGGUGACCUAGGGUGUGUCCUAAUGGGCCAAGUGUAUCUAAAAGCUAUCCUAAAAAAAAAUAAGAAAAGCCUAAGUCUAAGUUAGGGCUGCCAAGGGUCACAAUAAGGGAUCAAAUAAUCCCUCAACCAAAAUCUCCGAGGUGACUCAGAAAAAGGUAAGUGGUACGAGUAGUAAUGGGCCACCAAGGAACUACCGUGGAGCACUGGAAGUGAAUUUAAAGACAUGUGCUAAAGGAACAAAAUUGAGGGUCUACAAAUAUGCCCCUCUUCGAUAUAGAUCACGAGUGUAGAGAAUGCAAGUAGAAGCACGAGUAAUGAGCGAAAUGAAGUGAACUAUACCGAAGAAUUAAAGAAGGACCAAAGAUUUUGUCCUAGCACAUGAAGAGGUAAGGUCAAACAAUGGGGUCGCAAUGAGAUGGAAAUAAGUGAAAAGGGUGACUCAAAGUCAUGAAUGAGAUAAAUGAAUAUGGGUCAAGGACAAGAUGAACGAAUCUAGAUUUAAAAUAGGAUAAACGACUCUGGGUCAUAGGCUCAAGGCUCUAAUUGGAAAGAAUGACUCUGGGUCAAGAUGGAAAACGACUCUAGGUCGAGAGCCCUAGGCUCUAAAUGGAAAAGAAAUGACUCUGGGUCAAAAUGGAAAAUGACUCUGGGUCGUAAUGGAAAGUGACUCUAGGUCGAGAGCCCUAGGCUCUAAAUGGAAAAGAAAUGACUCUGGGCCGUAAUGGAAAAUGACUCUGGGUCGAGAGCUCCAGGCUCUAAAAUAGGAAAGAAUGACUUUGGGUCGAAAUGGAAAGUGACUCUGGGUCGAGAGCUCUAAGCUCUAAAAUAGGAAAGAAUGACUCUGGGUCGAAAUGGAAAGUGACUCUGGGUCGAGAGCUCCGGGCUCUAAAUGGAAAGGAAUGACUCUGGGUCAAAAUGGAAAAUGACUCUAGGUCGAGAGCUCUGGGCUUUAAAUAGGAAAGAAUGACUCUGGGUCAAAAUGGAAAAUGACUCUGGGUCGAGAGCUCUGGGCUUUAAGUAGGAAAGAAUGACUCUGGGUCAAAAUGGAAAAUGACUCUGGGUCGAGAGCUCUGGGCUUUAAGUAGGAAAGAAUGACUCUGGGUCAAAAUGGAAAAUGACUCUGGGUCGAGAGCUCCGGGCUCUAAAUAAAUAGCCGAUCAGGAUACUUUCCGACUCAGGGUGUCGGGUCGAGGCCACUCACAAGUGGCUAGAAUGAUGAAAACAAAACAUCUCAGGGAUGUGAAUGAUGCAAAUGACUCCGGGUCGUGAGCUCAGGGCUCGGGGUGCUAUGAAUGACUCUGGGUCAAGAUGGAAAAUGACUCUGGGUCGAUGAAUAGCUCAGGGCUAUGAGCUCCGGGCUCUAUGACUGAUCGGUUAGAAGGAGAAUGCGAUACGCAAACUCCAGGUCAAACCACUCAUGGGCGACCAAAUGAUGAAGGCUUAGCUAAGAGCUGGAAAGACUCUAGGUCUAUGGGAAAUGAUAGCUCAGGGCCACGAGGCUCAGGGCCUAAAGGAAAAAGAAUGCUCAGGGCUGUAAGACUCGGGGUCUAGAAGGAAUGAAUAACUCAGGGCUAUGAGGCUCAGGGCCUAGAAGGGAAUAAUAGAGAAGACCAACUCGAAAGUGGACAUGAAAUAAAUUGGCUCAAAGCCAUAUACUCAAAAUGUCAAGGGUCGGACUACUGAAACCAAGAAGGGAAAUAUGCCUCAGUAUCCAGGGUGCUCACACUGCUGAAACAACCAGUAAACCAAUCAUCUGCUAGAAUCAAUGGGUCAGAAACUGAUGCAUCGUGACAAACCUCUGAAAAGUCUAAACUGAAGGAACCCUCUAUGUCUGAAAAGCUGCUCUGUCGGUGAAUCUCAAAAGGUAAAUCUCAAAGAGUGUAUAUCAUGGCUCAUCUAAAAGUAAACCUCAAAGUGCAUAAAAUGCUGCUCAUCUGGAUAAUCCAAUCGACAAGGUAACAAUGACGAAAACAAAUCUGUCUCAUGAACAUCUGGCUAAAGGAUCCACCCACGCUCCUCGGGUGAAACCUGAUGCGAUCCAUUUCUAUCUCAACAAAUCCAUGUAGGGAGGCCCUGAUACAGUCGAUCGUCAGAAGCUCUGGGCUAGUACUCAAUCUGAAACCAAACUGGCCACUGUCCCAAUCUCAAGGAUACUCAAAGAAAAUGGGCAAAUAUGCCCCAGUAUAAGAUCCGAUAUCAAAGUCAUGAGGUAAACAACCGACACUAAUCAUCCAUCCUCAUGCCACUGCCCAAAUAAAAUCUCGUCAAGGAGGGGGGAAUAUGCCCCAGUAUGGAUAUCCGAUGUCGAAGUCAUGAGGCAAAAAAAAAAAAAAAACAAAAAAAAACAAAAAAUGAUCAUCCAUCCUCGUACCACUGCCCAAACACAAUCUCAUCAAUGAGAGAGGAAUAUGCCCCAGUAUGGAUGUCUGAUGUACAAUAAAGAGUCUGUCAAAAUCAACCAAACAUCUCUAUAACUAUGAAUAAGGAUAGUCAUACCGCACAAUAACAGAUAGGAAUCUCGAGGGAAUGGGGGAAUAUACCUCAGUGUGAAUAUAUAAUGCACAACCAAAGGAUGAAUCCAACAGCAUCAAUCAACUGUCCUCAGCUCAACAAUAAUACGCUAAGAAGUCAGAAUGAAGUAUCGACCAAUGCCUCAAGGGAGACACUCUAAAUCUAAUCUCAAAUGAAUAGCCAAAAUGAUGAGGAAUGUGGUAAUCUUAGGAGUAGAAGCACGUCUCUAAUGAAUCCCUAACUGAAUCCAACAUGAAUCUGGUAACCUCGAAAUGGGGAAAUAUGCCCCAGUAUGCCAGAUCUAUACACUGCACUGAAAACUGCCUCCAACUCAGUAAUAAUCCACUAGUCUAUCUCAGAAAUACUCCGCAAAUAGAACCAACUAGGGGCUCAAUGAUGCUACACUAGAACUGAUAUAGUCUCAACAUACCCCACUAGGGAUCUCUGAUCGGUGAAAAUGCCCAGACUCAAAGAAAGUGCUCCACUAGGGGCUCAUCUCAACCAAAGGAAAGGGGAAUAUGCCCCAGUAUGGAUAUCUAAUGCACAACCAAAGGAUGAAUCCAAUAUCCUCAACGAACUGUCUCCGAACCCAAAAAUCCAUCAAACACCAAUACGCCAAGCAAGAGAGAAACCAAAUGCUUCCAAAAGUAUCUUCCAUAAAAGAGAACAUAGUAACGACCAUACUUCAACCAAUCUACAAAAGUCUGUCCAAGUGAAGACUGUCAAAGAUAACAUCUGAUCUCAUGGCCUCAGGGUGGUCUUAAGACACGGGACGUAACGUAGGCCAAGGUGAUAGGGUGAAAGAAAUGAAGGGAAACUAGGCUCAAAUACCCAAUGAUCAAACCCGUACCCUCGUGUACAAGAUGUAAUGCAUAGAAAAAUCUCAUGAGUCAUGGACUUAGAAGUAACCAAAGGGAAUGUCGAUAACGAAAUGAGAGAAAUGAUGAAUGGUCAAACCAUCAAUGAAAUAUGUGAAUGAUGUGAAGAAGGUAUCAAAUCAGUAAUGGGUAUCAAUAUGUAGGGAAUGAAUAAAAGGUGGAACAAAGAUCUGGAAAGAGGUAAUGGGAUAUAAAAGAAAGCAAUGAGAAAGUGGAAUGAGUGAUGAUCAACCCGUGUUAGUACAAUAAAGGAAAGUCAUAUCACCAAUGAUGGAAUGGUGGGUAUAAGACAAUGAUUCGGAGACCCUAGUAAAAAGGUCACUCAUCUCUCAUACCUAAUAUAUAUCAAUCAUGAUCCAAGCAGCAUAGGAUCUCAUAGAACUCUCACAUGAACCCUCGACACUCCAAAUGUGUAACAAAAGUGCCUCAAGAGUGAAAAAACUCAUAAAAACUCGCAAAGACCCACAAUGACAAAUAUACCCAAUAAAUGAACCUCAAGAGGUGGCAUAAAUGCCCAAUGGAACGAGAUACCAUACAUGAGCAUAUCAUUGUGCUUUUCUUUUCUUUUCUUUUUUUUUUUUUUUUUUUGAUUUUUUUUUCAAAUUUUUUUUUUUUUUUUUUUUUUACACAUGCUCUGAUCAUCCAUAAAUCAAACUCCAAUGGGAAAAAUAUAAGGAACAAACAAACUCUCUCAAAUCACUUAUGAAUACAUGAACCAUAUCCCAUGAGAUAACCUCUCAAACCAAAAUCUCCAAAUCAAUGUCAAAUGAUGGAAUGAAUAGAGUGAUAUGACUGCCCUCUUUGCACUAAGAUGUGAAGAAUCAUCAACCCAAGGAAGAGAAUAGAUAAGAUGAAGCGAAUAAUGAUAAAGACAAGAAAGAGAAUGAAUAUGUGGUGAUAAUAAAAUAGAACAAAUAGGGUGAUAAGAGGAUGGUAACAAAAUGAGAAGAUAGACCUAUAAGUCUAAAGCUCAUGAGACUUUCCUAGCAAAGCAUGCAUAUACAUCAAAGGGCCCCAACCCGGGUAUAGAAAUGGUAAUCAAAGCUAUAAGAAAAAAAUAAGGCUAUAACAUACCACGCGAAGCUCAAUGGGCUAGCAACGGUCUAAUAUAUAGAGGUGAUAAAGUAUGAGGCUAACCGAAAUGAUGGUCACCCAUCCUGCGACCACGGUCUCAAACAUAAUACUUCUUCAGCUGAUCCACAUUGGUAGGCUCUGAAAAUUGAUUUCCAUCUAAGUCUGUCAACCAUGCAGCCCCUUAUAGAGUCAACUCUCGGAUAACAUAAGGCCCACUCCAACUAGGUCUAAACUUUCCCCUAGGGUCUCCAAUCAAACCUCUGAGAAUCCUCAAAACUAAGUCCCCUUUUUGCAAUGGUCUAGGCUUAACCCGUUUCUUGAAGGCACGAACCAUCUUUCUUUGAUAGGCCUGAACAUGAUCUGCUGCUCUCAAUCUCCUCUCAUCUAAAAGGUUAAGCUGAUCAAAUCGAGCCUGAGCCCACUCUGUCUCAGAAAUCAGCUGCUCAAGGGCUACUCUCAAUGAACCCAUCUCUAUCUCGACUGGCAAAACAGCCUCCAUACCAUAUACUAGGGAGUAUGGCGUAGCUCUUGUAGAGGUGCGAAAAGAGGUACGGUAUGCCUACAAUGCAAAAGGAAGCUUCUCUGACCAAUCUCGAGAAGUCCCAACCAUUUUCCUCAAAAUCCUCUUAAUAUUCUUGUUUGCAGCCUCUACUGUCCCGUUGGUCUAUGGCCUAUAUGCUGAAGAUCUAUGAUGUCGGAUGCUAUACUCCUACAACAAAGUGUCUACCUCAGCUCAGAAGUGCACCCCUCUGUCUGAAAUUAGCUCAUGAGGAACCCCAUAACGACAAAUAAUGUGUCAUCUGAUGAAACUGGCAACCCUAGCGGAUGUCAACCUCGCAUAUGAUGCGGCUUCCACCCACUUGGUGAAAUAAUCUAUGGCAACCAGGAUGAACUCGUGACCACUGGAAGAUUUUGGUGAAACCUUCCUAAUAAUAUCAAUACCCCGUACUGAGAAUGGCCAUGGCGAGGUCAAGGCGUGUAACUCUGAUGGUGGUGCAUGUAUGAGAUCACCAUGAAUCUGACACUCUGGGCAUUUCUGGACAAACUGACAACAAUCUAUCUCCAUAGUCAACCAGAAAUAACUCGUCCUCAUAAUCUUACGGGCUAGCAUGUGUCCUCCCAUAUGCGGACCACAAACUCCUGAAUGAACCUCUCUCAUCACUCGAUCUGCAGAGGCUCGAUCUAAGCAUAACAGAAGCAUACCAUCAGCUGAUCGUCUAUACAAAGUAUCUCCGCAAAUCACAAAUCUAGUAGCCAAAUGCCUCAAUGCUCUCCGAUCCUUGGCAGUGGCUACCUCAGGCUAUGUGCCAGAUCUGAGAAACUGAUAAAUGUCAUGAUACCAAGGUAGAUCAUCCUGGUCCUCUAUCUCUCCAAUCAAACAACAAUAAGCGGGUGCAGACCUCGACUCAAUCAGUAAUGGACGUAUGACUACAUCAAUCAGAAUGUCCAUGAAGGAAGCUAAAGUAGCUAAGGCGUCAGCAAAUCGGUUCUGCGCUCUAGGCAAAUGAACAUAUCUCAAGUCGUCAAAUCUCGCAACCAACAACUCUAAAUAUGCAUGAUAUGGUCUAAGCUUCACGUCCCUAGUCUUUCAAUCCCCCUGAAUCUGCCUGAGUACCAGAUUGGAGUCACCAAAUACCUCCAUCUGUCUAAUGCCAAGCUCUAAUGCAGUCUCUAAACCCAGGAUGCAAGCCUCAUACUCAACUAUGUUAUUCGUGAUAGGAUGUCGAUCAUGAAAAGCCAAACAAACAGAUCUCGGAAUAUGAUCGCCCUGAGAGGACACUAACAAAACACCUAUCCCAUACCCUAACUGAUUGGCUGCACCAUCAAAGUACAAGCACCAUCCUGAUAAGCUAGUCAUAGCAACAAACUCCUCAUCUGGAAAAUCAUCAUCAACUGGUCUGUCUUCAGAUGUCGGUAGUGAAGCUAAGUGAUCGAUGACAAUACUUCCCUUAAUAGACUUCUGAGAAACGUACUGAAUAUCGAACUCUGUCAAAAGUACGAGCCAUCUCAUCAAUCUACCAGUCAAUGCAGGUCUAUCAAACAAGUAUCUCAACGGGUCUAGACAGAAUAUCAAAUGCACUGAAUACUCUGUCAUAUAAUGCCUCAAUCUCCUGGUAGCCCAAACUAGUGCUAAGCAAAGGCGCUCAAUCAUAACAUAUCUCAUUUCAUACUUCAGCAUCCUCUUACUCAAGUAGUAAAUAGCCCGUUCCUUCCCUGAGUCAUCAAUCUGAGCUAACAUACAUCCCAAGGCCAUGUCUGAAACUGACAAAUAUAGAAGAAGUGGACGUCCUGGUUUAGGAGACACUAAAACAAGAGGAUAAAGCAAAUACUCCUUGAUCUUCUCAAAUGCAGACUGACAGUCAUUAUUCCAAACUAUUGGCUAGUUCUUCCUCAAAAGAAGAAAGAUAGGCUCACAUAUGUCUGUCAAUCUGGCUAUGAAUCGAUUGAUGUACUGUAAUCUGCUUAGAAAACUCCUGAUCUCUUUCUCAAUCUUUGGUGCAGGCAUGUCAAGUAUGGCUUUGAUUUUAUCUGGGUCAACCUCUAUGCCUCGCUCACUAACCAUAUGCCCCAAUAAUUUCCCAGAAGUCACUCCAAAGGUGCACUUCUUGGGAUUCAACCUCAAUCUAAACUUCCAUAUCCUCUCAAAGAAUCUCUCUAAAGCAUCUAGGUGAUCUGCUCUACCUCAGGAUUUCACAAUCAUAUCAUCCACGUAAACCUCGACGUCCCUAUGCAUCAUGUCAUGAAACAAAGUGGUAGCGGCUCUCUGAUAAGUGGCUCCUGCGUUUUUCAACCCAAAUGGCAUAACUCUGUAACAGUAGGUACCCCACUCAGUAAUAAAGGUUGUCUUCUCCAUAUCCUCUAGAGCCAUCAAAAUCUGAUUAUACCCUGAAAACCCAUCCAUGAAAGACAACAUCGAAUGGCCUACGGUGCCAUCAACCAACAAAUCAAUGUGUGGAAGGGGAAAGUCAUCUUUAGGGCUGGCUUUAUUGAGAUCUCUGAAGUCAACACAAACCCUAACUUUGCCAUCCUUUUUAGGAACAGGGACGACAUUAGCCAACCACUCUGGAUACUCAACUACUGAUAUGAACCCAACAUUGAGUUGUUUUUUAAUCUCCUCUUUUACCUGUAGACUCCAACGUGGAUGCAAUCAUCUCAAUUUCUGCUUAACUGGCCUAGCAUGUGGUAGGAUAGGUAAAUGGUGCUGGACUAUAGAGGGAUCAAGACCUGGCAUGUUCUCAUAAGACCAUGCAAAGACAUCCAAGUAUGACCUGAGUAAAUGGAUGAGUCUAUCUCUCUCAUCUGUAGAUAGGGGUGAACCAAUCUUCAGCUCUCUAGGCUGAUCCUCUGUGCCAAAAUCAACAGUCUCAACAUCCCCUGUAGCAGUUGAAACUCUCUCAUCCAUGGGAUCAGAGUCAUGAUCAGAAGAGUCCCUAUCCGAAUCGGGCCAUGCAACUUCAUCAUUUAUAUCAAAUAUCUGUGAAGUGGGUGAAUGGGGUGCAGAUAUAGAGGUACUAUCACAAGAGACAGGCGAAUACUCAAAAAUGCUCAAAUUCAUAAAUGAAGCAACAGAAACAUCGUCAGAGCGGGAGACAAAUCCCGAUAAAACAUCAAAAGAAAGAUGUGGGUCCACAAGGUCAGAUGCUCCUUCAACUGAGCUAACAAUGCCCUCAAACAAACUACUAUCAUCCUCUGGAAGCCCUGGAACAGGAAGAGUCUGAGUCCCCUCAAGAACCUCAAUGGUAGACACCCCAAACAUAUCAAAUGCUGAGACAGGCUGAAGUUGAACAAUGCUGGUAAUCUGGCCCAUGGUCAUCAUGUCCAUCUCAUCUCGGUACUCAUCAUGGGAAACAACUCCAUCAAUCAUCUCAGUAGAAUCAACCAUCACCCCAUCACCAGUGAUCUCCUCUGGAAAGCAUAGAGACAACAUGCUAGCUCGAUCUGGAGACGUGGGAGUAAUAGUCAAAGGGAAAGAAGAGUCGGGAGCCCCAUCACUCAACUGUAGCUGGUGAAAUAGAUGCUGAAGAUCGGUCUCUCUAUCUGUAUGAACCACACUAUCAAUCUCCUCUAGACGAGGUCGAGUCUCUGAUCCUCUGACAAAGUAGUCAACCAAACUCAUCCUAUAGGGUCGAAUAGGAUAGUCAAAUGGUGUGCGGGAUAAACGGGCUCUCACCUUCUCCUUGCGCAGCCACGCCAUGUGACGGUAAUCGGCCUCAGUGGGGAUGAAUCCAAGUCCAAAUGUCAUAUCAUGGUCAAUGGCAGCUAUGAACUCGCUCGGUCCCUACUGACGUUGUCCUAACCCCAUGCCAGGUAGAAAGGUCAUACCCCUCAUCAUAUCAAGGACCACUGUGCUACUGUGUUGAUCAAAUGACAUAGCCCCAAAGUCUCUACAAAAAUCCUCAAUCUCGAGAGUCUGUAUCUCAUCAAAAGUAAACCCAGUCAGAAGUAGGUCGUCCUCAUUGUGACUGAUCUGAAGUACUGGCUCAGAAGCGGCAAAUAUAUCCCUGGUAGAGCGCACUGUGAUGACCUGCCCAUCAUGAAUAAACUUCACCUUCUGAUGAAGGGAAGAAGGAAUAUCUCCAGCUACAUGAAUCCAUAGUCGGCCCAGUAGCAGGUUAAAGGAUAUAGGGAUCCUCAAAACCUGGAACAAAGUGGAAAAUGUGGCUGGAUCAAUCUGCAAAUCAAUCAUCAAGGUACCCAUAACCUCCUUCUUGGUGCUAUCAUACGCCCUGACUGUCUGAGUAGAAGGACCAAAAUCUGAAGGCGCAAAACCAAGGGCUAUAACAAUGGCUAAAGGGCAAACAUUCAGGGCUGAGCCGUUGUCCAGUAGGACAGACGGGACUCUACGGCCUGAACAUCCAACUGUGAUGUAUAGAGAACGCACGUGGUCUAAACCAUCAGGUGGCAAGUCAUCAUCUGAAAAUACAAUGCAAGUGGCCCUGCCAGCCGUCAUCAUAUGAAUCAAUCCCUCUGGAGUGGUGGUAGUCUCUACUCUGAUCUGACUCAAGGCUCGAAUCAAAGCAUCUCUAUGAGUACUGGACGAUGCUAAUAAACUCCAGAUGGAAAUGCGAGCCUGAGUGCUCUGUAGUUGUCUCAAAACCUCAUCAUCCUCUCUCCUAACCUCCUCAUGAGAGGCUGUACCCUCAAAUGGUCUGACUGCUGGUGGUGGUGGUUGAGCUAUCCUCCCACUACGAGUCACAAUCUGUAUCUCUCUCCCUACUGAGUCAUCAUCCUCUGGCCAUAAAGUGAAUGGGACAAAAGCAUCCUGACAUCCGAUAACUAAAGGUGUAGGAUGAGUCAACUGGAAUGGUGCCUCGUCCGGGAUCAAACUGAAUGGUGCAGGAGUUUGAGGGACCACUGAAACCCCAUCAACCUCAUAACUGUCAUGCAAAACAAUCGGCUCGGGUAAUCUAUCAUCCCAACUCAACAUGUGUAUACUGUCAUCCUUUAUAAGGUCCAUGUGAUGAAUAUCUCCUGAAGGUGGAUGCACUGUGUGUGUAGAAUGAGCAGGAAGAGGGUUAGUGGUCACACUUGGCUGCCCUAAGUUGACCAAACCCUGUGUGGACCCCACAUUUCGUGCUCAUAUGUUUUCCACUCGAUGGCGAGCUCGAUUUUUAUUUGAAAAAUUGAUUUGUCAUUGAUUAAGAAAAAUGACUUGGAGUCGCCACUUAUUUUUUUUUUUUUUUUUUUAAAGGGUAAACAAAAUAAGAAAGAAAACCCUAAGUGUGACUCCUUAUUUUGGAAAAGGUGAUCUACAAAAAUCGGAUCGGGUUCGGGGGUCAGGUUACUUAUCGGGAAGGUACGGUAAAGACCGUAGCACCCCUCUAAGUCCCUAAAGUCGGGUCUCUACUAAUGAGAUGAAGCUAACAUGGCAAUCAAUGAGAGAAUCGAUGAAUACUCAAAUCGAUCAUGCACAAUAUGAGAAGCAAAGCAUGUAUAAAGAAAGAGCAAAAUAUGAAUAGAUGCGUACCUGGGCGGCAAUCACGAAUGCGCUAUCAUGAAACAUGGUUAGUGAACAACGAACAGAUAUAAUUAAGCGCAUAUCAAGGAAUAGAGUAAAUAAAUCAUGCAUGACAAAUAAAUCAACCAAACAGUCAAUCAAUCAUUCAAUCAAUCAUAAAGUCUCAUAUGUAGGGCCCUCACCAAAGCCCAUUUAUUUUUGUAUGAAUUAAUCCCAUGAAUUUCCAUCAUUCGGAAUUACGGGAAUAAAUUCAUACUUAUUUUAAAACAUUUUUUAAAAAAUAAAGAAAAUUCGAAAGUGGCUUGCCGAAAAGAAAAUGACGGCCAAAUUUUAUUGAAAAUGGGAUUUUGAUACCUAAAACUCUAAGAAUGAAAAUUUUGGAGUUGAGAUUAUUUCUAAAAAUGAGGAUCUGGAAAAUUAUUUAAAAAAAUGAGGUCUGAAAAAUUAUUGUCAAAGCCGAAGAGGAUAAAAAGGGAAGAUGUCACGUGACCAAAAGUGGUCGUGCAACUGGAUACGUGCAUGCAUGGGACUGGGGUGGAAUGAGGGGAUUGGAUUCUUCAAGAUUGGAGACUGCUUGGAAGCAGUCUGUAGCAUCAUCUAUUCGUCCAUCAUCUUUGUGAGCCAUUCCCAGGUAGUACCAAGCCAUUUGAUUGGUAGGCUACAUCCUCAAUGCAUCUGAAAGUAGGUUUCUCGCAGUAGGAAAUGCCUUCGAGCCCAUCUUCAACAACAGAGCACCAAUCAAGAUCUUGCAAGGCACAUAACCCGGAUCUAGUAAAAGGGCAUUGAUAUAAGCAGUCAAAGCUUCUUGGAUUUGCCCAUGACCUUCAAAUUUAACACCUUCUGCAUGCAGUAAGUCCACUGAGUAUUCUUUCAACUCUCCAGCUUUUCCACUGAGUAUUCUUUCGACUCCCCAACUUUUCCACUGACCACCAGCAUAGUUACUACCCGUGAAAAGAGCAUGAGCAAGGGAAUAGUCCUUUGCCUUGUAAUGCUCAAAGCCAUGUACAGGCAAGGCAUCUAUCGCAAGCUCAUCAUUAUUCCAUAUGACUAUGUGUACUUCAGGUCUUUACGCAUUUCCCUGGCGUGAUGGAAUGGUGCUGCUAAAUUCAUUCUCUCCAUCUUCUUCUCUAGGAAUAUAGGCUGGUUCAUGCUGGACUUGGAAACAUUCUUGUGAGUCUCAUUGGUUCCAUUAGACUGAUUUGCUCUUAUUGAAGCAAUCUUCACAGAUGUUCCCCAACCAAUGACCAAGAGAGUAUCAUCCUGCCACACUAAGCGAGGGACCAAAAUCUCAAGACGUGAGCUUCCUCGGUCUCUGAAACUUCCUCUUUCUGCAAUUUAGCCGUGGCUAAAUCUUUGGUUUCCGCUUCCAUUGAGUGCUCUUCUAAUUGGUUCAAAUCUGGAGUUUCAUCAUCUCAUGACGUGAUGUCAAUUGCCUCAUCACAUUCAUCUUGACUACCAUCUAAAAUUCUAGCUUCCUCUGCUUUUAUCUGUUCAACAUUCUCGGACUCAGAAACAGCACGUAUGGCGGGCUCCCCUUCUGUUGCAUGUUGAAAUAGUGCUUCAAGCUCAUGAGUUUCUAGAUUUUCACUAAUCGAAUGUUGCUCUGAUUCAUUCAUGUCUGGAGCUUCAUAGUCUGCCAUGGUGACAUCAGUUGUCUUGACACAGCUAAUUUGGUCACCCUCUUAGACCGUAUCCUCUUCUACUUCAAUAUUUCCAUCAUUCUCUGACUCAGGAACAGCAUUAGUGGCAGCCUCCUCUUCAAUUACCCCUUGUAGCAGUUCUGCACCCUCAUUCAUUUAAUGAUAAACCCACUGCUACUAGAACCAUAUUGCUAAUUCCGCUGUUAUAGCAGCAAGAAAUUCGAAUCUGUGUGCAGGCAAGACACCUUCAUCAAUUUCGGUACCAAUAGAUUCCCCUACAUUCCCUCGCUAACCCAGAACCAAACUCUCACCACCUGAGAGAUAAUUGAACGAAUGGAAUCGAAGUGCUUCUGGAGGGUCAAGGCAGCCAAGAGUGUAGGGUAUGUUACCAAGGAUGGUUUACAUAUUUCUUGGGUUUCAGAGAUUGAUGAUGGAAUAAAGCAUGUAUUGGACUAAGGACAUGGAGGUUUAGAAAAAGAAGUGGGUAGAUGAAUGUGAAGGAUGCGUGGUGCAGGAGAUGGGUAUGAGAAGGUUGAAUAAUGAGAGCAAAGGACUUUGUGUGUAUUAAGUGAUGGAAUGAAAAUGGAUGAUGUGGGGCAUGGUGAGGAAAAGAAUGGAUGAGUUGGGUAUUGGAGAGUAGGGUGGUGAUUAGUGAGGUAUGCCAGAUGGUCUUAGCUAAUGAAGACAAACAUGGUAUGGGUAUGGUGAUAAUAUAGAGAGAGAAGUGGGUAUGUGAGUAAUGGAAGUGUAUGAGGGGUAUAGAAGACGGGUGACAUGGGUAUGCAAAUGAGAAUGGGUGGUAAGAAAAAAUGGGUAAGCUGAUAGACAUGAUGAAGUGAAGACAUUGGAGAUGGUGGGCAAAAGAGAAACGAAACAGGGGUAUGGAUGUGGCCCCUUGAUUAGGUAUGAUCUCUUGGCACUCUCCCAUCAUUUUAUGUACUUCAAUUGUUUCACUUGCAGUGUUCUGACUUAACACCAGAACCAUUCCCACCAAACACUUUAGUUUGAUCCUCUUCAAUAAUGGUCAAACAUUGAACAGAAGAUUCAAAAUCUCCAGUCUUCUGCAUUGACAGAUUUUCUGCAUUGUGUUAAUUUCUCACCACCAAGAUUUGACUCAGCAACUCCACAGACUGCACCCAAACAUUGCACUUUUACCUCGUCAUGCUUACUGACAUCAAGUACUUAAGAACCUUUAUCCUGGUUUUAAAGGCAAGAAUGUGUUUCUGUUAUAUCGAUUUCAACUCUGCUUGGAUCUGAAACUUCAUACAAAUCCUUGUUUUCAGUUUCAGGUAAGUUUCUCACGGGCACAUUCAUAUCAUCCUCUGCAGCAACCUGGGAUUCAAAUAGACUGCUUGCAAAUUCAAGGAUACUCAUCAUAAUAUUUUCCUUUCCUUCCCUGCUUUCCUUUUCUGUUAUCUCACAUUUUGUUAUUUCAACCUUGUCAUUGUCUCCUCAAGAGCUUCAGAACAGAGCCCCAUCCCAAGCUCAUGUAGGUCAAUGUGAACAUCUGGGUCAAUACCAACAUGGGUUCUGAACAGUUGAGUAAAUCUAAAGAGCCAACCAUCCAUCUCCACUUCCUUGGGCUCAAGGUCAUCCGAAGCUCCAGCUUUCUCCUUUGGAGUUUCAUUCUCUGUCUUUUCAAUCUCUGCACCCACAGUGUCCAGCACUGAAUCACCUAAUGAAGAGUGAGAGUCGUUAUCCUCUCCCUCAAGCCCCUUACUCUCAGGAGGCCUCUUCUUCUCUGUUAACACUCGCAGCUGAACGUCCAAACCCUGUUCUCGAAGUGACAGUAUCUCAUAUCUGAUGGGUAGGCAACAUUGCCCCUUGCUAAGACCCAAAUAUGUACCCUGAACCACCAACAGUAAAAAAGAUAACACUAAUGCCCUGAUAUGGCCAUCACCAAUAUUUUUUAGCAUAAUAACCCAGCAAUCUCACGAACAAACGAAACAAACUGCUACCCAAACUCAGAAGCUGUGCCCAUAAAGAAAUCAAAGUAAUGCUAGCCAAAAACUCUUCUCCUUAGAGGGCAUGAAUGGCCAUCGAGAACAGAACAUGAACAGCAAGGAUGCAAGCACAAAAACAGAGUAUCAAUUGAACCAAAGAAAACACCGACCCGAGCUCUAUUUCAUAUUGGAGUCAAUAGGCACAUGUAUAGGUGGGAAAAUCAGUGGAAAUAGGACCCAAAUACAUGACUCAGACACCCAAUGGAGAGAUAAAAAGGAAUCAGAUCACUCUUAAAUCAGUUUUUCAUGAAGAACAAGGCACAAAUUAUUUAUAACACAAUCACAACAAUAUCAAGGAAAACUACUGCAACAAGUAUAUGGUCCAGAAAACGCACCUGAAAGGCUUCCCUCCAACUGAAAUGAGCAAGGAGACUGUUGUGUUUUUCCUCUCCUCACGGUUUGCUUCCUCCGGGAUCCCCCUUCUCUCCGUAACCAGCCUCCAGGAACCUCCCCACUCCUCUGGUUUCUCUCUCUGGUUUCACUCUAAAAAAAAAUGCUCUGUCCUGAUUACUACCAAAAAGUGCUAUUUUUUAGACCUAAUUAUAAUGGUUUUAAGCACCUUUGAGUAGUAAUCAUAUUCAUUUAACCCAAUUAAUUCAUUAAGGUCCUUAGUAAUUGGUUUUAACCAUUUUGUGGCAAGUUUACAUGUUUUUAUCAGCUUAUGAAUCAAUUCAAGCAUGCCAAAUGAUGGAGGAGCUACUUGAACAAGUUAUGGCAAAGCUUUUAGAAGCUCAAAUUCAUGAAGAACCAAAGCUUUGAAGUCCUUUUCCAUAAGCAAAUCCGGAAUGCAAGGAGGGAAAGCAAAGAGAAAUCUGCCAUGAAGCAUUCUUGAUGACAGUCAUGUCAGCCACUUUUGGAGCACUUUCUGAAGUCCAAUUGAUGCAUUCUAUAUACCAUUUCAAAUCUCAGGAAGUCAACAAUCCACUGCUUCAAACGGUGUGCAAUUUGGAGUUGAAACGAAGAAGUUACAGCCAUUGCAAGCCAAUCACUCCAACCUGAAGGAAGCAUUUUGCAAAGUGUUGCGAAAUCACCCUUUUGUUGCGAAGUGAUUCCGCAGCCUUUUUGUAUAGUAGGGUGUAUUUCCUUCUGAAGUUGCCCGACAUAUACCGCGAGAGGGAAGCUUAGAACCUCAAGGUGGAAGCCAACUUUGCAGCCCUGCGAAGAUAGCAUGUUGUUGCGAAAUGAUUUCGCAGCCCUCUUGAGUGUCUACGAAAUCUCGCAGACACCAUUUUCUCUUGCGAAAUGGUUCCUGGAGCCUCCCGAUAUUUGCUACCGACAUUGGGAGAUAUUUUGCAUCAGAUUUUUGUUGUCUAAAUCCCAAAAUACUCCUUGUAAGCCACCAAUUACAAGAUUCCUUAGCUUUUAAGUUAGUAAAAAGAGUAAAUAUGUAUGUAAUAAUUAGUUUUAUAUUAUUUUCUUUAUAUAUAGCUCUCGGGAGCUUGUUCUCGAGAGAGGAUCUAAGAUAGAAAUAGAUAGAUAUAUCAUAUAUAGAAUCAACGAACAGAGCACUUGCUCUGUUUUUCUUAUAUAUUCUUGUUUUCUCGUUAGUUUUCUUGCUAGCCAAACAUUCUCUAAGGAUUUUUCCUCAGAGGAUGAGAGGCUAGGCUCUUUGUCUCUUGGAGUGAGGAAAGCCGAGUAAGUUUCCACAUGCAUAAUUUGGAAGUUUUGUUGUUUUAGUUUUUAAUGAAGAGAAAUUGUGACCCUUUAAUGGUUUUUAUCUUUUUAGUUAACUUAAAAUGCCUUUAAAUCAUCCUGGGCCAACACUUGGUAAGGCAAGUGAUCUCCAUCCAUGGAGAUUCACUAGUUUACCCCUUGCGAGCCUUUGGGAGGUGACUUGAAGGUAGGAUUUUCUAGAAUAGCCAACACUUGGUAAGCUUUUGGACUCCAAGGAGACAUCCAUUAGUUAUCUCUUGCGAGCUUUUGACGGGUAAUCCAAGGUUAAAGAUCACCUUGAAUGGCAAGUGCUAGGUGAGAGGUAUGAGCCAUUGCAAGGUGCAUCAGUGAGAGGGAUUUAGUGUUUGAACCCAUUAAUGGGAAGCAUCUGUACAACACCGGUUGGAGAAGGAACUAUAUGUUAAUUCUCUAAUGCGAGGAAAAGAAACAAGUGACCGGAACUCCCUUUUUGUAUGAGGAACCUAAGCCUAGUGAUCUAAACUCUAAGAAACACUUUUCUUUGUAAGUAAAAUCAGUUACUAUUUGUGGUUAGUUUAAAACCAAACAUUUUCCAACUCAAGUUUAUGUUUUCUUUUAAAGCUAACCUUGAAAUGAAAAAUCACCAAUUCAGCUUUGAAUUAAUAUCAUUUGCAAAGUGAAAACCCAUCCCAGUGAACGAUCCUAGAGCCACUAUGCUAUAGUAGCUUUGUCUUUGCUACCCUAGUAUAUGGUGUAAUAGGUUAUAAAUUUUGUUGAUUACUACCUCAAUCAAGGAGCACCAGCUGGACACGAAUCAGCUGAGACACCAAUUGGGCACGAAUCAAAUGGCGCCGCUGCCGGGGAUCGAACCCCGAAUCAAAUGGUGCCAUUGCCACUGCCGCUGCUAGGGAUGAAUCAUGUCCUCUCUCUCCUGAAACAUGCUCCAUUUUUCUCUCUCUGGUUUCACUCUAAAAAAAUGCUCUGUCCAGACGACACCCCCUUCCUGUAGCUGGCAACCUCUCCAAAAGCACCUCACCUCCAUCUGCCAGCAUCUGCUCCUCUAACAGCCAGUAUAUUCCCAUGUACGCGUCACCUCCUGAUUGGCUCCCCAAACCACUAUUAUGAUUCUCUCAUGGCUUCUCAGGUGCUGACACGUGGCUGACCAAGGCUCUUCCACGUGGUAAAAUUGAGCUGCAAGGUAGGAAUGACCUAAAAGGGGGUCUACACCCUGAUCUAUCAAAUCCUGAAUAGCAUGUCUCAAAGCAGUGCAAUGGUCUGUGUCAUGCCCUGGUCCCUGAUGGUAGGAACAAUGUAAGUCCAUCCUGAAGCGAGGUGGUAUGGGUUGGGGUAAAGGCCUGGAUGCUAAUGAAAUCAGUAAUCCACCCUCUGUGAGCUUCUGAAAAGCUUGAUUCAAAGGCAUACCCAACUGAGCAAACUGACGUGGUGGCCUCUGCACAUAAGUAGUGGUCUGUGGAGCUCGGGGUCAAGUAUAUGGGGCAAGAGGCCUCUCUGCGACGUGUGCAGCAAAAACAGGUUGUGAGUCCGGAUGCAGAUAAGUAGGAGUCAUAGGUCUGGAAGGAGUAGGUGGUCUGUAAUGGGCAUUGAGGUGAAGGUGGAUAGUAGUACCCAAGAGUCUGCCUAACUGUCUGAUAGCGUCUAGAAGGUCUCAUCCUUGCUGAACUGAUAGCACCAACAUCUCCUGAUCUCUGUCCUCCUGAAGGCCUCUUCCCUUUAGAAUCAGUAGGGGAGGACUCAGACCAUAAUCCUCUAGCAAUGCCCUCCUCUAUACCAUACAAAGCCUGUACCAAAGACCCAAAAUCUGUGUGAGGGAAUCCCAUCAAGUGUCUGGCGAAUCUAGGUUGCAAGCUCCUCAUGAUCAUGCUAAUCUGAUCUCUCUCUGAAGGACAAUCUAUAAUCUAUGAAAUCUUCUCCCUCCAGCGGGAGAUAAAUGAAGUAACUGACUCCUCUGGCCUCUGUCUCAAAGCCUCCAACUCUCUCCUCGAAACAUCAAUGACAGUGUUAAAUGCAAACUGUCUCAAAAACUCCUGGGCUAAGUCAUCCCAAGUCCUACGGCGUGAUACCUCCAAUGAAGCGAACCAACGCUGUGCAGCACCACUCAAUGACAUAGGGAAAAGCAUAACUAUCUGGGCAUCAUCCAGUCCAUGGGCCCUCAUAAUAGUACUAUAGAGUCUCAAAUGGAUGCGAGGGCAUCCUAUGCCUGUGUAUCUCUCAAUCUCAAGCAUCCUGAACUUGGCCGGUAGACAGGCCACUAGUGCUCCAUCAAAAUCCUCCCAAGUAAUAGCUCCCUCUGAACUCCUCAUCUGUCUCAACUUCUGCUCAAGUUUAUCCAUACGAACAUGUGGAUCCUCUGAGAUCGGAGUAGGCACUAUGGCAGGAGGUGGUGCAACCUCAGUCUGACUAUGCAGAGUAAAAGAUAUAGUCUGUGGUGCUGGCUGACUGUGCGGAGGUGGUCGUGGUACUGUUGUAUCAAACUGGAUAUCCUCCUGAACUGGGACUUGUCGGGCCUGCUACCCAUCUAUCCUCUGGCCAAGGCUAGCUAUAGCCUCCUGGAUCGAAGCCAUGGCCGCAGCAAACUGGUCAAUGGUAACUAUCUGAGAAUCCAUAUCCCCCUGAUCUGAUCUCUGGUCUAACUGGUUGGAUGCUCUGGUCAAUCUGCCUCCAACUCUAAUCCACGAAGGUGAAUCCAGACUGGUCAGGGUAAACUCUCCUACAAGUAUGGAAACACUGGAUAAGGUGCGGUACGAAAGCGACUCUGUAUGAAUCAACUGAUAAGUGUGCAAGAAAAUAGCCCAAAUGUACUCAAUCUGACAUCCUCCUCUGAUUACACCAAAAGGAGACUAAGGAAGGGAUAACCAAAUCCAAUCGUGACCAAGGCAGCUCUGAAGGUCCACAGAUGCACCCACGUGUAGGAAUGAAAUCUUAAUUAGGUCUAGGAUAACCUACAAGGUUAAGGCGGCUCUAUAAGAUAAAAUGGGUGGGUCAAAGGAUCCCUAGCAGAAGCGAUCGUACCCUCCGGCGGUACGCAACCCUCUGCACGCCUCCACGGAGACGGGGUGCUUCCAUGCAAGGUGGUCAUUACCUCCACACAUGCACUUCCUCGCGCUCCCAGGGGGUUUCUUAAGGUUGAAGGCUCUCCCAUCUCUCAACACUCAGGAAUAAUCUAAAGUGCACAAUGAAGGAUAUGGGUGCAUCCGAAAAACCUAAGAUCUAAAGUGAGAGAGUGAACAAAGACAAGCGAUCAUACGAUCAUGCAAGAGAAAGGGUUGUCAUGCAACAAGCAGUCAUACUAAGCAGAUGAAUAUCAUAAAAUCAAAGUCCUAUCUAGCAUAUGUGAGAGUGAAUCAUGCUGAAGUGAGCAAGCAAUCAAGUGAUCAUCCAAGGCAAUCAAACAUGUCAAGAUAGCAGACCAAUCAAGCAAAUUGAAUCACCUUGCCUAGGAAAGGGGGGUACCCUCUAAUUAAUCAAUUAAACGCCACAUUUUCCUUAACUAGUGUUCAAGCUUGAUCCUCAAAAUCCCCAGUGGAGUCGCCAAUUUGUGGACCCGCAUUUUUCACGUGCGUCCCCACUCGAUUGGUGAAACUCGCUUUUUAUUUAUGAAAAAUUGAUUUUUGAAAAAAAGUUGGAGUCGCCACCUAUUUUAUUUUUAUUUUAAAGGGAAAAUAAAACAAGAAAGAAAAACCCUAAAAAGUGACUCCAUAGUUUUGGAAAAAGCAUGUCUUUGAGAAACCCGAGUCUAGGUCUGGGGAUCAGGUUACUUAUUGGGAAGGUACCUUUAGGAGGUAGCACCCCUCUAAGCCCUAAAGAGGUCCCUACUGACUAAGUUAAGGGAAGUGUGGCCAUUAUUUAGUUAAUUAUGGAUACCUAAGUAGGUUAGGUGAUUUUAAAGUGUGGCAUGUCAAACGCAAUCAAAUUGCAAUAAAGGAGAGUUAGGGUGCGUACCUGAACCGUUCUUCAAGCGCUAUCAUAAAACAUAAAAGUUAGUGUAGAAAUGUAGCACACAACAUUUGUUUUAUUUAAGCAAAUCAAGCAUAUAUCAAGACAUCCAAGAAUCACGUCAAAUAUGGAUAUGGUCAUCAAUGACAUACAAGUCCAUAGAGUUCUUAAAAAAAUAGAUGAGAAGAGAGCGUACCUGGAUAGCAAACUAGUACUCCUCUAUGGGUAACAGGAGUAUUUCAACAAUAAAUACAAAACAAAUUCAUGUAUAUCAUCAAGAAGAAUCAAGCAUCAACACAUCAAACAAACAAUAUCGAAGAGAAAAUCAUGAAUGUAGGGCCCCCACCAAAGCCCUAAUUAAUUUUGCAUGAGUUGGUUCCAUAAAUUCCAUGAUUUGGAAUUAUGAAGUUUAUUCAUGCUUGUUGAAAAUCAAGAAGAUCAAUUGAAAAUCAAAUAAAAUAGUGAAAAUGUGUGCCGGAAGGAAAAUGGCAGCCAAGAAUUUAUUAAAGGUCUAGAUUUAAAUGUCUAUGAACUCCUAAGGAUGAAAUUUUAAAGGAAAUAAGAGUUAUUCAAUGGAAAAUAUUUUGAAAUCCAAAUUUAAAAUGAAUGUGUAAAUUCACAAGCGAACGGAAGGAGCAUCAAGAGGACAAGUGAAUCAAGCCAGCCAUGUUGGAGAGGGCCCUGUGACUAUGCUACUUAAUCUCUGUUUGUGCCUGGACAAUUGAACCUUUCCUAUAGUUUAUUCUUCUGUCUUUCGAAAUUCUCUGUAUUGAAGCAUGCCUCAAGAUGAAUUAGAAUUGUCCUGUUUGACGAAAACUCCCUUAAAAGAAACGGGAAGAAGAUCUGUAUCCCCAUUAAAAGCUCUACUAAUUCCAUAACAGUUCCAGAAUUCUGCAUCAAUUGGCCUCUUAGCUGAACAAACAAACAAAGUCUGUAUGUGCUUCCUGUUUAUCCAUCAAGGGCAAAUUGAAGAUUUCCCUGAUGUCACAUCGCGAGCUUCGUUCCAUCCAAAUCCUUCAUCAUUCAUCAGUAAUUAUAUCAAUUCUGGAAUAGCAGGGGUAGGGUGUGUAUUUUUCAAUUGCGCUGCUACCUUACUGGGAAAUUCAGACCAUUGCCACGAGUCUUCAUCUAUCCUCUCCAUGAAUCUGAAAAUAAUGUCUUGAAGUGGGGCGUUGCAUAGGAAAAAUUGUUGUUUUAGUCGUGAGAGCUUCCCAAUUUCGAUGUAGGGAAGUCAGCUGCAUCCUCCCAAUCAUCUGGCUUGGCCUUAGGCUGAUCAUCUUUAUAUUCUUUUGGAGGGUCAACACACUUGACAUUGCCAUCAUCAACACUGCUGUUCUGACCUAAUGUGGCAUUCUCACACCUAUUGCAAUCACCUUCUCCGUUCUCAGUUGAGAGUUUCAAUGCUACAACAUCUAAACAAGUGAGCAACCUCCUCCCCUGAGCCAGUGUUUUUGAGUCCCUCGAAUCAUGAAAAAUAGAAACUGACCUAGCAAAAUCAAGUAAACCAGUAAAACCCAAGCUUUGUCUAAGGCCAAGGCUAACUAAAGUCUCCAAAGUUUCAGGAUCUGAGAACUUGUCAAGGGGGAAGAAAACUUCUCUGUGAAGCAUGUCUUGCAAUUCGGGAACUCGAGGAUCAUAUAGCCUGGAUGGUUGUUGCCAUGACCCAUUGGCAGCCAAAAAAAAGGGUGUGAUGGAAAGUGUAAGUUUAAUUGAGGUAUCUUCUUCAAUCAAAAGUUUCACAUCAUGUAAAAUGGCUGAAAGUGCUCCCUGCUGUGAAAGAAAUUCUGGCAUGCAAGUGACUACAUAAUCUUUGUAGAAUUGUGCCCUUGAAGGUUCCUUAACCUCUAAAUACCUUCUCAGGAUGAUUCUUUCUUUUUCUGAAUCCGUGCGUACAAAGUCAUCAUUCAAAAGAUCUUCAGACACACCAUUUGGUUUAAGCAAUUUAGUGGGUUUACUCAAACAUACUAGUUUUCUACUUCUGAACGAUUCAAACAUGGGAAGGUGUUUGAUGACAUCAAUAUGUGUGUCAUCCAUCUGACCUUCAGAGAACCACUUUGACUGAAGAAUAAAACUCCUGAGUUCAUGAAGCUCCCCUUCUGAUGCAUCACAGAAAAGUUUCUGAACAUUCUCCGGAUUAUGAGCAAGUGCCAGUAAGGCAUUCAAAAUGCCAGUUGCUAUUGGCAGCUGCACAUAAUUUUUCAACUGUGGAUGCUCUAUAGGCAGGUCAUUCCUCAAAAAUAGGCAUCCUACUUUCAAUAACAAAGAACACAUGUUCUCACUCCACCCAUCAUCUUUUAUCACAUUUGAAUUUUCAAUCAGCUUCAAGAGAUAAUUAUUCCCAACUGGUAAAAUAGGCCACUUCGAAAAUUCUGAGAGAUCAUCACAACAUGACUUCAAAUAACUCCAUAGCAACCUUAACCAUUCUAAACUUGGUUGGCCUUGAUGACCAGGGUUCCAAAUUACCUGUUUGGCAUGCUGCCACUCUGCUGGGAGUAAUCUUAGGAAAAGUUUUUCAAGCAAAUAGCAUGUCAGAAAAGAAAUAUUUAAGUCUUCUGUUUGGGCAAUAUCACAUAGCUUCAUGUGAAUUCCUUCCGGAAUUCCAGAGUCUACAAGUUGAUGUGGAAUUGAAUCCUUAAGAAGACCAUACUCAUCUCCACGUGCAAUAUAAAUCCUUUCACCCACUCCCAUCUUGUCAAAUGCUGUAAAUAAACCAUUGGCAAGGGGUACCAAAGGUAAACCAUACAAACUAUCAGAUCGAACUGGCAUUUUCAAGUCAAGUAAGCAAUAUUCAAGUGUCAAUAUCAUUGCAUUCCUGUCCCUAAAUCCACGUUUCCGCCGAAUCAACAGAGUUCUCAGCAACUAAGGUGUCAGGAAACGCAAUGAUGGACAAAACUCCAUAAGCCUCUCGACAAGUGGCUUAGAAGGAGACACGAGAGGUAGACCAGCAUCAGAUAAUACUUCUACAAGCUCAUGUGCCUUACUGAAAGUAAAAUCAGUAAAAACAGCUUGUUUGGCGGAAAUCCACUGGCCCCCUCUAGCUUUUGUAUACAAUACAGAAAGAUCAGAAUUAGCAAUAAAAUUAUAGAGUUUCUGCACCAUUGAUGCCCAAGGUUCUAUUCCAAUGCUAGUUGACCAAAAUGAAAAGAACAAAUCACAUGGACCAAGUUCCAAUGCAAUUUUCUCAAGCAAAUGACCAUAAGCAGGGGCAGCAACAUCUUCAAGCACGUAAAUGUUCCAUUCCGAGCGUUUUUUUUUCACCCCCUGCCAUGUCAUUGCCAAACCAGAUAUCCCUUCCAUUUGAUGACAAUUCAAAAUAUGCAUUAACAUGUGCUGGAAGACCAGUACUGAUCGGCAGUGGUAAAAAGCAGAAUGCACGGCCCUCAAAAUUCUUUCUAUCUUGAAUAGAAGAAGCAGGAACUUCAAAGACAUCAGAAAUAGUUUCACAAGUUCUCUCAGUAUGCGGAAUAUCACUCGAUUCCCUAUCAACCUUGACAGAGUGUAAAUAUGCAGCAACACAAGCCCAAGGAAUUAAAUUAUGAGACUUCGAGGGUGCAGAGUUCUUAACUUGCCCAACACCUAAACAUUCACUGGUUAUUGAUUACUACCAAAAAGUGCUAUUUUGUAGACCUAAUUAUAAUGGUUUUUAAGCACCUUUGAGUAGUAAUCAUAUUCAUUUAACCCAAUUAAUUCAUUAAGGUCCUUAGUAAUUAGUUUUAACCUUUUUGUGGCAAAGUUGACAUGUUUUUAUCAGCUUAUGAAUCGAUUCAAGCAUGCCAAUUGAUGGAGGAGCUACUUGGGCGAGUUAAGCAAGGAUUUUGUACUUUUAUAGGCUUGAAUUUCAAGUGGAAACACGAGCACAAGCAAUGGAGAAGAGGAAAACAGAGUGAAGAAAACAGCUGCAGUAUUCCUUUGAACUUUUGGAGCACUUCCCGAAGUCCAUUUUUUGCAUGCUAUAUACCAUUUGAAAGCUUAGGAAGUCAAGAAUCCAAAGCUUCAAACCGUGUAUGAUUUGGAGCUGAAAUGAAGAAGAUAUGGCCUUUGGAAGGCAACUGCAUCAUGUCAAAUGACCAAUUUCGCAAGGAGAUUUUCUUCAUGGUGCGAAAUUUUGCCACUUCGCACCAUGAAGAAACACAUUGCGAAAAUUUCGCAAGGAGGAUUUAGGCACAUUGCGAAAUUCCUUUGAAUCCCCUGUUUUGAGACGUUGUUGAUGUUAUUCCACUACCGGUUCUCCAAGAUAUUUUGCUUGAUUUUUAGCUUUGUAAAUACCUAUUUUACCCUNNNNNNNNNNNNNNNNNNNNNNNNNNNNNNNNNNNNNNNNNNNNNNNNNNNNNNNNNNNNNNNNNNNNNNNNNNNNNNNNNNNNNNNNNNNNNNNNNNNNCAGUCACCAGCCCAAUCAAGCCAACAGAGUCAAGGUCAAUCCUCAAUUGAGCAAGCACUCGUAAGCCUUAGCAAGGUUAUGGGUGACUUUGUGAGUGAGCAAAAAUCCAUCAACUCUCAACUAAAUCAGAAGAUUAACAACGUAGAGAGUACAUUGAACAAGAAGAUAGAUGGGAUGCAUAAUGAGUUGUCUCAGAAAAUUGACAACAUCCAAUAUUCCAUCUCAAGGCUCACAAAUUUGAACACUGUCAAUGAGAAAGGGAAGUUUCCCUCUCAGCCUCACCAAAAUCCUAAGGGGAUACAUGAAGUGGAAUCCAAAGAUGAGGAUUCUUCAAAGGUGAGGGACGUGCAAGCUAUUAUCACUUUGAGAAGUGGUAAGGAAGUGCAUCAGCCGGAGCAUGAUCAGAGGAAAGCCAAAGAAGACAAGGCUGAUAGAAAAGAAGAAAAGAAGAAAGAACAAAAGGGAAAGGAAGUUCAGAUGAAAGAAAGCAUCAUUCCAAGCAUGGAUGAGGAACCUCAAAUUCUUUUAAAGGAAGAAAUGAUGAAGAAUCACAUCCCUCCACCUUUCCCCCAAGCUUUGUAUGGCACCAUCAUACAAAGCAAGUCUCAAGUGAGGGAUGCAAACUUCAUAUGGGAUCCGGGCAAGCUAAACCAAGGAUCAAAUUUUUUGAUGGACUUAGUCUUUUUAAAGACUAGCUAGUCCAUAUCUUUUUUGUUUUAUUACUAGUUUUGAUUUUGAUUUUUUAUGUUUUUAAUGGAGCUUUGAUGUCCAAUAGCAGGUACGAAAGCUCACAAGCUCACAAAUGUGGAAAGAAAGGUGAAAUAAGGGAGAAAUAUACCUAAGUCCAAGCUUAAAAGCCCAUUUCGCAACUCAAAAAGUGAGUUGCGAAAUGCACAUUUUGGCAAGAUGCAAAAUGCAACCUCUCGGGAUUGCACUUUCGCAAGGAGUAACCAGUGCGAAAAUUUUCGCAAGUUAUUUUUCACCUUGCGAAAUUGUUUUCAAAGCAAAUAUCAAAAUGCAACCUCUCGGGAUUGGUUUUUAAGGGGAGUAGCCAGUGCGAAAAUUUGGCAAGGUGAAUUUUCACCUUGCGAAAUUUCCAGCACUCCGCCAUGCUCUCUCAGAUCCACCAUCACCUGGGCAUAUCACCUCCUCCACCUCAGGAGCCACAUCCAUGAUUGGAUAUUUCUAUCUCCAUUUUGUAUAUGUUUUUUUGUAGAUGUACAUGUUUUAUAUUCUGAGAUUGUAUGUACCUCAUGCUUCUAUCUUGUACUCAACUCUCUCAGUUUAUAUAAGCAUCAUUUUUUGUAUCUUAUUUCCUCUCUCACGUUUCUUAUGGUUUUUGAAUCAUGUGGAUGCACUCACACGCCUUGAAUACCAUAUCACCAUAAGGUAUAUCAUUCCUUCCUCGUCUUUUUCGAUAGAAACAUUGGGGACAAUGUUCAUCUCGGUUGGUGGGAGAGUUGAGGAAGUAAGUAUUUCCUAUUUUAGUUAGUUAUUUUGUUGAUUUAGUAGUUUUUGCCCUUUUUCAAAAUUUUUUGUUUCAUCCUCUAUGGUUGUUAAAGAUAAUUUCUCAAAAUAAAAUAGGAUAAGUCGAGUUUUAACUUAAUUACUUAAGUCUUAGAGUUUGUUUUAUACUUUCAAAGUUGAUAAUCUAUUGAAGCCCUCUUUGAUUUCGAACUUAUUUCUUCCAUUUCAAGCUUUACACACACCGUGCACAUUAGAUCCCGGAUUUAUGAUGUAAAACUUUCUCACCCUCUAAGCUUAGGAAAAUUUUGACUUGGUUCAUUGCUUAACCUCUUUUUAAUAGUGUUGGGACACCUCAAAAAGACCAAUGAGUCUUAGAAAAAGAAAAAAAGAAAAAAGAAAAAGAAAAAGAAAAAAAAAAUAAGCUUCUAUUCUUUCCUUGAAACCUAAGCAUGAUCCGAAGGGGUGGCGAAAGCCUUUAAAACCCGAUGCCCUAAACCUUGAUUGGUUGGGAGUCAUCGAUCCUCUGCUUGCUACAUAGGUGAAUUGGUUAAGUUUAGUGAGUAAAAAGAAUUGUGAAUAAGAAGGUGCGUUCCUAACCUAUUAAGAGUUGGUUAAUUUUGCCAAUGUCCGAGAAAAGCUUAGGUUGGGGGGAGAGGAUAGUUGUGCAUACUAUAUCCGGAAGCUAAUCUCAUUAACACUUAGCUCAUUAUGGAAGAGUUUGAUUCGGAACCUUGAGAGUAGAGAUUCUUUUGAUACUUAAUUGCAUAAUCUCCACUCUUUGUACUUUUUGUUUAAGUUUUAGCUUUGACAACUCCUAUUGCAUUUUGAAUCUUCGUAUCUUUAGUUCACCAUGUGAGAUGUGUUUUGAUAUCAGUCAUGCCACUCAAUUAUUUUUUGGAGUGAUUUGCAUGAUCCCUUUUAUGUAUAUUAUUAUAGUUUACUUAGUUUUUAUCUCCUCCAUUGCUAAGGGACUAGCAAUGAGUCGGUUGGGGGGUGUGAUUACUACCAAAAAGUGCUAUUUUGUAGACCUAAUUAUAAUGGUUUUUAAGCACCUUUGAGUAGUAAUCAUAUUCAUUUAACCCAAUUAAUUCAUUAAGGUCCUUAGUAAUUAGUUUUAACCUUUUUGUGGCAAAGUUGACAUGUUUUUAUCAGCUUAUGAAUCGAUUCAAGCAUGCCAAUUGAUGGAGGAGCUACUUGGGCGAGUUAAGCAAGGAUUUUGUACGUUUAUAGGCUUGAAUUUCAAGUGGAAACACGAGCACAAGCAAUGGAGAAGAGGAAAACAGAGUGAAGAAAACAGCUGCAGUAUUCCUUUGAACUUUUGGAGCACUUCCCGAAGUCCAUUUUUUGCAUGCUAUAUACCAUUUGAAAGCUUAGGAAGUCAAAAAUCCAAAGCUUCAAACCGUGUAUGAUUUGGAGCUGAAAUGAAGAAGAUAUGGCCUUUGGAAGGCAACUGCAUCAUGUCAAAUGACCAAUUUCGCAAUGUGAAAUUCACAUUGCGAAAAUUUCGCAAGGAGAUUUUCUUCAUGGUGCGAAAUUUUGCCACUUCGCACCAUGAAGAAACACAUUGCGAAAAUUUCGCAAGGAGGAUUUAGGCACAUUGCGAAAUUCCUUUGAAUCCCCUGUUUUGAGACGUUGUUGAUGUUAUUCCACUACCGGUUCUCCAAGAUAUUUUGCUUGAUUUUUAGCUUUGUAAAUACCUAUUUUACCCUUGUAAUCAACCAAUGAAUAGGUUGCUUUUGUAAUAGCUCUUGUAAUUUAGCUUGUUAUUGUCUUUAAAUAGAGGUGAAGAGCCUCAGACAAUCAUCAUCUAAUCUUGUAACCUGUAACUUUAUAAGUUAUAAGAGCACUUUUGUUCAUACGUUUCUUUCUCAUUUUCUUAGUAGCCAAACAUCCUUAGAGGAUGAAAUCCCCAAGGAUGGGAGGCUAAAACCUUUUAGUUUCUUGAAGUAAUGGAUGCCAUGUGAAGCUCCCGUGUCAGGAUGGAGAUUUCCAAGCCAUGAAUGUAAGUAGCUGAGCGUCAUAAAUGUUUUCAUUCAAAGUAAAGCUUUUAAUCCCUCUGACUUGCUUUGAAUGGCCAAUACUUGAUAAGCUUUUGGUCUCAGUGGAUUCUUAUUGUUAGAUCCACUGACGUUCAUUAGUUAUCUCCUACGAGCCAUUGUAUUGCAAGUCGAGGAGAUGACCUAUAUCAUUAAAAGGGCAUUUAUGAGGUUCAGCUACCCUUUUUGUAAGUUUUCAAGGACUAAAACUCAGUUGUUAAACUCAUACCAGUUCGGGAAGUAAGCAUCACCUUAGUUGCUUCCCCAACUCGAGGUGAAAAGUCCCAAAAUCUCCAUUUUUACACAGUGAGUUAAGCAUGGCUAUCCAAAGCUUUGAGAAACUUCUUUUUCCAUCUUUUAACCUAUUUUCAUGUUAGUUUAGUUUACACACCUUCAUCUUUUUAUGUUUUCAUCUUAACCUAAUUUUUAUUAAGAAAAGUUCACUCCAUCCUCCGAACUUCACCAGUUAAAGUAAAAACCCUUCCCAGUGUUCGAUCCUAGAGCCACUAUGCUAUAGUAGCUUUGCUACUUUAGUGUAAGGACCUUAGGUAUAAAUUUUGUUGAUACCCUUACAUGCCAAGCUACCAAGAGUCGGGUUAUCAGUUACCCAAAAGUGUGACAUAUUUUUUUGACGAACUUUGCUCUGUCAUCACAAUCUUCUGACAUUUCCAUGGCAAAUUCUUAUCAACUAAUUUACUCAAUUUUUUUAGAAACUGAUCCUUAUCCAUUCCACUGUGCUGAUUUCCAUUAAAAAUGCUGAACAUAUGUAGAGAAUUGGGUUCAAUGUCAGGUUCACUGAUGCAAUGUUUAUGAACGUGAUGUAUGAGUUGCAUUUCACAACCAGUUUCUUCCUUAACAAAAAUGGAGAUGGUUUUCACAUUACAGACGAAAAGUAAAGCCUCUGAAACAACCUUAGAAAAAGAAGCAAAGAGAGACAUGACAUCUUCAGGUGCAUAGCCUUCUUUCUUUAUUUGGCUUCAAGAAGCAACACUUGCAUUCCUGAGGAGAAAACGAAAGAGUGUGCCAGGAAAGGGAUUCUACAAGUCACAGCCAAAGUGUAGGAAUGGAGAGAACUGAUAUGGAAAUUGUUCCAGAAUCCUUCUCCCAACAUAUCUAAUUCUUAAACCAGGGUGGGAUGGAGAGAUUCCAGGCAAAUUAAAGGCAUGAGGAUCAAACAUAACAAUAUUUUCCCCAGAAACAAAAGUUGGUAUGUCUGUAAAAUGAUAAGCACAAUUAAAUCCCAGCCCAAAUCUUCCAAUAGCAAAUGGCUUCUCUAGCUUGCUUUCUUGAACAAAUCCGCGAGAUUGCAUAAAGAUCUUGUGGACUGAAAAUAGAGUCAUUGAAACAGUACAAAGCAGGGCCUUGCCAAUCUGCCAUUUCAAGAGAGAGGAUGGAAGAAGUCCCAUACUGGGUUUUCCGCGAUCAUCCCAUCUUUAAAUCUUUGAAGCUCUGCUUUCUCUCCCCAAAAAUUCCGGAAUUUAAGAGCCUCAUCUUUAUGCUCAGCAUUUGGACCAGCAUCGACCACUCUAAAAGCUUUCUCUAAAGAGCUGACUAAAAUCCCAAUGAGCAAUGGCCCUCGCUCAAAGAUCGAUAAACUAUUUUCCACAUUGCAUUCUGAAGUGGCAUUUUUCCAGCUAACACGGAUGAACUUUGCUCUAAGAGAACCAACAUUUCAUCAUAAAACCCAAUUGAUCCAAAAUAGGAAACUAAGGAAUUAAUCAAAUCUUCUUUCUGGACAUUUCUUCGAACACACCAUAAGCACCUCAAAUAGAUUCAAAUACCGUACAGGAAGAGGGAUAGAGAACAAAUAAAAAAAGAAAAGAUAUAAAACCCGAAGACGAAGAAAGCGGAAGACAUUGAUCAAUAAACAUAAAUAGCUCCACUUCAAAUGUUAAUCCGUGGGCUGGGGACAGAGGAAACAAUGCAGUAUGGGAUUUUUAACAAAAAAAAACAUGAUCAAAUUCAAGCAUGGAGUCAUGAAUUUCAGAAGACAACAAUGACACAUGAGAGAAUCAGAAUCUAAAACAGGGCAAAGAAGUGAGUAACCAAUCUCAAGAAAUCAAUUUGUGGCCCUUUCCGUCCACACCAAUCAUCAGUAUAUUAAAUGUUCAGAAACAAACACACGGAGAAAUCAAGUAUGGGUAAGAAUUCCAAGAGUGGCGAGAAUCAUACCUGGGCAGCCUUGGUUGCAAUUGCUCUCUUCUCCAAUUCCUUUGUGCUUCUCCUCAAGACGAUCCCUCAAAUCCCCUCUCUCUUUUUCCUCUCUCACAUAUAUAUCAGCCUCCCUCAAAGAACCCCCCAAAUCUGCUGGAGGAAAAUCCACUUUCCUUUCAUAUUUUCUUCCCUUUUGUAACCGAUUCCCUCAUGGAAAUAAUAUACGUGCUAUCCUUCUAAAAACACAAUCUCCUCUUUUCAAAAUUCUGUUGAUUUUCCUUCCAAAUAAAUGGCGGCCGUUUUCUCAUGGCCAAAAAAUAAAUAAAUAAAUAAAUAAAGAUACAAAUAGAAAUAAGAAUAAAAUAAAGACAAAAUAGAAUAAAGAUUAAAAUCAAUAAACAUCAUGAAAUUGAAAAUCAAAAGAAAUUUAAAUCACACAUCUAAAAAAUAAAAUAAAUAAACAAAAAAUAAAAAAUAAAAAUAAAAAUAAAAAUAUUUAAAAACAAAAAAUAAAAUAAAAAAAAUCAACCACAUGCAAGCCAUACAAGCUAUGUAACCACCAAAAGAAUAUGAGUCAUGAAACCAUGCAAAAACACGAGCCAUGCAACCAUGCGAACCAUGCAAAAACAUCUAAAGGUGACCUAGGGUGUGUCCUAAUGGGCCAAGUGUAUCUAAAAGCUAUCCUAAAAAAAACAAGAAAAGCCUAAGUUUAAGUUAGGGCUGCCAAGGGUCACAAUAAGGGAUCAAAUAAUUCCUCAACCAAAAUCUCCGAGGUGACUCAGAAAAAGGUAAGUGGUACGAGUAGUAAUGGGCCACCAAGGAACUACCGUGGAGCAUUGGAAGUAAAUUUAAAGACAUGUGCUAAAGGGACAAAAUUGAGGGUCUACAGAAAGCAACAUGUGAAGCUAAAAAUGAUAUCAGGAGGAUGAUCUUGUGGCUUUGAUCAAUGUAAUAUUUGGUCCAACAUCUCAUAAAACCAAGAGAAUCCAUGGCAACAUAAAAAAGAAGGUCGUGACCAUACUAAUUGACUUAGGAAGCACCCAUAACUUCCUUGAUCUCGUAGAGGCCAAACGAAACAAGAUGCUCAAUACAAACUACCAACCCCAUGAAGGUGGCAAUAACAGAUAGAACUAGAAUUACUAGUGAUGCAAUUUGUAGGCAAUGUUAGGAUAGAACCCUUAAAAGCAUGACAUAAUGUAAUAAAUUUGGAAUUCAUUAUUUAUUUAAUGAUAUUCCAAUUUCACUUUUAUCUAUCCUUAUUCCAUGUAUUAUACUUUAUGAACUUUUUUGUCUACAUCUUUUGCAUUGUACGUGACUUAGGUGCCUUAGGAGUUGCACAGAAGAUCUAAGUCAUGAGUUCCUUGCAAAUAGAUGACUUGUUCACAACCAAUUCAUGGGUGUAGGCAAUCCAUUAGAGGUUUUAGUGCACCACUUCCUAAUUAGAGGAAUAACUGGUCUUGGCUAUUGGGAUGAGUUUCCCAUGAUGAGUGUACUAAUAUGUAUGGAUGCACAUUAGACAGGACCGAUGGUGAGUUAUGACUUAAGGCUAUCAAGUAGUAAUGACUUCACCAAGUUGUUUCAUUAUGUUGUCUCUCAACCUUGAGAGAAUAUUGCAUUUGUGUUGAAGUUAGCAGUGUCUUUGAUCCACGGGUGAAAUCGUAAGCUAAUCAUAUACUCUUUAUGGAUUGGAUCACUACUGAUGGAUGCCAAUAGCAAUAAGUAUUCUAAAUAGAGACACCAUGAUAUCUCUUAGGAAUAAGACAGUGUGUCUCCUCGGGUGAUCCUAAGGAGGUGUGUUCAUGGAAACUAUGGUCAUAAUAGUUCCUUAGGUGGAACUUGACAUAGGCUCUUUGAAAGCUAAGAUAUGUCAAUUGAACACACAAUAGGAGAAUCUAUAACUCAAGGAUGGUAGAGAUAGUCUUAAAAGGCUUAUAGCUUUCACUUUGUUAGACUACGAACACCAAUUCAUGUGGAGACUAAACACAAUGGAUAACAGGUCAUGGACUUGAGCACUUGGUGUCUUAUUAUUAUUUACAUAGGAUAUUUGAGUUCAGUUGAUUCUCUAUAGUGGGAUAUUAAAUCAACUUUAGAAUUGGAUUAUGAGAAAACCAGUAUUUCUAUGGGUCUUAGUGGUCCCUGUUUUGAGCUCAUAUACCUUGUUGGCACAGAUUAUGAGGGUCAGAUUGGCUUUAGGUUUAGUUUUGUACAUAAGGGUGUUUUGGUAAUCACACAAGGUUGCAUAGAGGUAAGUGAGCAAGGUCUUUGGAUUGGGUUAAUUGAUUAAUUAGUAGGCUCUGUUAGGUUAACUAAUCAAUUAGGACCCAUUUUGGGAUAGAUUAAGUGACCCAAGCCCUUAGUGAACUCAAGUCACUUAAGCUUAGUAGGAAACCAUGUAAAUACCCCCUUAGGGGUUAGGGUUCCCAUUGCUUUUUCUAGAGAUCCAUCUUCCAUCUCCAGAGAGAAAGAGAGAGAUUUAUAGCAUGUACUCUUCCUUCUAUCCCCACCAGAAGUGUGUCAAGAUCAAGUUUCGAGUCAUCGGGUGGAAGACUUCAGGUUUAUGAGACUUCUACGAUUUCAUUCUUCAUCUUCACCACAUAGAUUUGAUUUAGAAACGUCUGAAUCUAAGGUAUGGAUUUUGUUUACACUUUAUGAAUCCCUUUAAAGUUUAAAAAUGUUAUUUUUCCAUUGUGCAAAGGAUUUAGAAAAAGCCUAGGAUAGUUAUGCAUGUUCAUAACUUGAUUCGAUCUUAGGAAAGGAAGAGAUCCUAGUUUUUCCCAUUAGGCAAUUGACAUGGAACAUGCAAGGGAAUAAAUUUUAGAUAGAUUUGAGGCUCAUCCUUUUGAGUAGGUGCGAUAUGGUAUUGGGAAUUCAAUGGCCAGCUGAAUUGGGACUCAUAUUAUGGGAUUUCAAGAAUUUAAAAAUUGAAUUUAUUGUUGAUGGAAGGAAAUUCGUGUUAAGAGGUAAAACUAUAGGUCCUAAGAAGUUAGUUUCAACAAAUCAAAUUCAAAAUUAUUUAAGGCAUAUGUCUCAAGCAUCUACAAUUCAAAAUUUCACUAUACAAGGGAAUGAGGAAAAUAAAGUUGAAAAUGAACAACAUGGCAACUGUCCAACUCAUUUCCAAACAACGUAACAUAGAAAGAUGCUUACUUUCAACAAAAGUUUCCAUAGUUUCAACCUUGAGGACAAGACUUCUUUUGAUGGGGGAGAGUAUGUUACAACCCUGAAUAAAGGAUCCCUAAUAUCCCUUAAUCUUUAGUUUCUAUUUCUGCUUAGUUUCUACUUCUAUUUAGUUUCUAUUUAAAUUGGGGAAUAAAGGAUCCCUAAGAUCCCUCAAUCUUUAGUUUCUAUUUCUAUUUAGUUUCCUAUAUAAAAUAAGGAAAGUGUAAUGGAGAAAAACAUGAAAAAAUAAUCUCAAUAAGAAAAAGUUGUUCUCUCAAUUUUGCAUAUUUUCCUCAUAUCAUAAAAUUUUACAUGUAGAUUUUCUCCUUUUGAAGCUCUAUAUGAUACAAAAUCAAUUCUCUUUUACUCCAAUUCCAAGUAUGUAUUUACUGAAAUGGGUAUGCUUUGACUCUCAAUGAACACAUUUUCUCAAUUUUUCUUCAUACCUGAGUGGAAAUAACAUAAGGCAGUUAAACUUGCUUUGAGAUUAAUUGUGGUUUUGACAAGCAUUUCAUCUAUAAUUCAUUUAUACACAACUAGGUACAGUACAAGACUUCCUAAUUAAACAAAGUUUCUGGCAUUAAUGAAUUGAAAAAAAUAUGGGUAAAACAAGUUUCUACUCACCAUCCCAAACAUUCCUUUAGAUGUAUUGUAUGGUAGAGGAUUAUUCUUUAUUAUUAUUAUUAGUACUAUUCUUUUUUUCCCUUUUUAAUGGUUUGUAGUAGAUUCAAAUGGCAUUAUAGAAGUAGAAUUUCCUAAUUUAAUUUGUUGGACAAAUUUGCUUUGGUUUUGCAAUAUUUUGUGUUUUGAAUACAUAGAAAUUGAAAUAUAAUAAGAUAACAAUUAUAAUGUGUUUUUAAGGGGAUUUUUUUUUAUCUUCUAUAAGUAAAUAAAAAGAAAGAAAAAAGAAAAAAAAACCAACACCAACAACAAUAAUAAUAUAGACAUUUGCAAUUUUUUUUAAAGUGUCUCUAUUAGAACAUUGAGUUUUAUUUAUAUGUUGGUAAUUUUGUUCCAAAUUAUUUUUUGCCUUAGAAAUCUUUUUAGAUGGUGGCUUACUCUCCAUUGAAGAUCAUGGAUUGCUACUUGUCCAACUGGAAAGUCAUAGGAACGUUUAAAAGGUUUGACUUGUGGCAAAUUAGGGUUCUAAAGGGUAUAAAUAGGAGUGUUAUUCUUUUUUUGGAAUAAAAUUGAUUUUUAUUUAACUUUGUAAAAAAUGCAGGAUUGCUCGAGCGGGAAAUAGCACUCAAGCCCUGGGACCGCUCGAGCGCUUGACUAGUGCUCGAAUGCCCAAGGUGCUCAAGCAAUGGUUAAGUGUGCUUGGCCUCGAGCUCUCAAGUGUUCAUGCCAAUUAUGCCAAAGAUUAGCAUAAUAUUUUCGAAGAUUUCAUGCAGUUGUAAGUAUUGGAGAUUUCAAUAAGGCUAAAGAGUAUUCAGUGGAGAAAUUAGAGAUUGUUGUAUCAUAUACGUGGAUGAAGUUGUAGGUAUUGGAGGGUAAGCCUUUAGGAUAAAACGACCAGGUAAAUUUGUAACUUGAUCAUGUAUAGUGGAUUUUGAUUAGUAGUCUUAGACCUUGUGGUUUUUUUUAUCUCCACAAUAAUGUGGGGAUUUUUCAUGUAAAAAUCAUUGUGUCCAUUGCUAUAUCUUGUGAUUAUCACGAUUAUUUAGAUUCUGUUUAUCUCUAAUAUUAUCUCACAUUGUAAAAAUUGGGUAUAACAUAUAAUCUUUAUUUUAGAAUUCUUUUAAUUACACCCAUUCACCUCCCUUCUCUCUUUGGGUGUUACCCUACUAGACUUGGCUUUUUCAGUCUCAAAUUCUACACUAGCCUUUUUUUUUACUUAAGUUAUAAAUGGAAAAAGUUAUAAACCCAAGAUAACUUGUUAAAAAAGUGAGAAAUAAUAAAGGACUCGUGUUAGAGUAUAAAUAACUAAUUUGUUCUAGGCUUAAUAUAAAUCCAAUGUUAAAUAUGAAUACUUAAUUAUUUAUUAUAUUUUGAAAAUAAAGUAAGUAUUUUUUAUAUAAAAAAUAAAACAACUUUUCUAGAACAACACAAGGCACUAAUGCAUAUAGUUGGUAACAAGUUGGAGAAAGAAAAUAAUGUGGAGAAAUAAAACGUGUAGAAAGAAAACAACUUGGAGAGAAAGAAAAUGACUAACAGAAAAGGAAAUAGAGAAAUUAUAGAAUGUAAGAUAAUUACACUUAUUUUCAUAAAAAUAAUAUAUUUUCGAAAAAUAGAAAAUUUCAUUCAUAUUCUCUUUUUCACUUAUUUUAAAAAUUAAAAUUAAAAUUAAUAUUUAUCAAAUGAAAAUAUUAAUAAUUAUAAAAUUAAUAUUUAUCAAAUACAUAAGAUUAAGAUUUAGAUAUAAACUUUUUAUAAUCUAAACUAUUAUAUAUUUUCAUUUUAAAUGAGAAAGGUUGAUGUGAUAUUAUAAAAUUUGUACACAUAAUUUAAGUUAUCUCUAUUCAUAUAGAAUUAUAUAUAGGUAUAGAUUCAUUUCAAAAUUCAAAUAAUUAUUUGAAUUUUACAUUUAAAUUUUAUUUUUAAAUUUAAGACUUAAUUAUUUUGUAAUUAGAGUACUUGUCAUAAAAUUGAAGCUUAUAUAUUUAUAAAUGCCUCCACUUCCAUACCUGUCAUAAAAUUGGAGCCUACUUUUUUUUAUUUUCUUUUGUGUGUUUAUAAAUGUCUCCAAUUCCAUAUCUAGCUGUGAUAUAUUUUUAUAGAUGAUUGUGAUUGAAGUAUAAUUUCUUUUGAUUUUAAUUUUAUAAGAAUUAAAAAUCUUAUCUAAAUUUGAUUAUUAUUUUAGUUUUCUAAAAGUUCAGAGUAUUACAAAGAAACUGUUGGGUAGAAAGAUGUUUCCCUCCAUAUAUACAUAUCUAAUUAAAAAAAAAAACACACAAAGAAAGACAACAAUAGAUGAUCAAAAUUAUUAUUCAUAUGUUAUGUCAGUGCAAAAUAUGAAAAAGAAGACAGAAGCGUGCGUCUUCACUGUGACUGAGGAUCAAAAUCUCUUUGAGAUUGAUAUAAAUUAUUUAUAGCUUCAUUGUUUGUGGAGAGUUGAUUCAGUAGUGUCUUCCAUUUGAAGACAUACAGAAAUAGUUAGAAUUAUCUAUUCAUUUCAAGAGAUAACUUGCAUCUAUGACCCUUAUACUCCCAUGAACUUUGAUCCGAUUAACACAGUGGGCAUUUAUUAUUUAUAAAAUAUGGAUGAAAAGAGAAUUAAAAAAAAAUUAAUGGGAAGUGUAUUUUGGAAAAAAAAUAAUUCUCAUUUGAUACAUUGGAAAAGUAUCUACCUCAAAAAUGUCAUUAUAUGUGUACAUGGGUCAUCAUCCAUAGUAACCCAAUUCACAUGAGGACGGUACAUCAUUCAACCAAUAAAGGUACUUUAAGCUCAAAACAGUGGUACAGUAUAAUCAAAACAAUAUUACUUUAAUAUCAAAAUACAUGCAAGGACAUUUUUAAGGUAAUGUGAGGUAAAUACUACUAUAAUACAUUAAAUAAGAAUUAUUUUCCCAAAAAUGUGCUUCCCAUGAAAAUGACUUAUGUGGUUUCUUUUAUUUAUAUUUUAUAAAUAGUGCAUGUUUACAUAAUUCCCUCAUUAAUUAAUAUAAUCAUCUAUACCUGAUAAUUAAGGAAAUAAAAAAUAUUUACAUACUAAGCAAGGAUAAUGGAAAUUAAAGAGUAUGUCAAAAAGAGAAAAAAUAAUAUUAAAGAUAAAUUAAAACUCUAAAAUACAAGCUUCAUUUACGCAUAUAGGCCAAUAUCUUAGGAGGUAUUUGAUUAAAUAAUAAUAAUAAUAAUGAUUAAAAAAUGGAAAAAAUUAUGGAUCCCAUUUUUUAAGUGUUUUCAAUAACAUAAUUAUAAACCUCUUAAAAUUUAAAAUCAUUUAUUUAAACCAUUUUAUUCAUUUAGCAACAAGGACUUAAUUAAUCACUAAGAUCGAACACAAUGAUUUAUAAUUUUUUCUUCCAUUACCAUCUUUUUUUUUUUUUUUGUUAAUAAAAUGAAGAUUUCUAUAGAUGAAUUUUUUAUAAUAAAACGUAACUUCUUUUAAAUUAAAACCAUUUAUUAUUAAAAAAAAUUAUUUUAAUCCAUCUAUGUUCUUUUAACCAAUUCUUUUAGAAUUUUUAUAAAUUUUUUUUUCAUAUUUAAAGAUAAAAAAAUGAUUAUGAAAUAAUUUUAUUCAUUAUAAAAUUUAUCUUUCUUUUCUAAAUCAGAAUUUUUGUCAUGUCCAUUCAUAUAAUAAAAUUUAAAUUAUGAAUAAAAAAACCUAUUUUAAUUUUUAGCGUCAUGGAAUCUCUCCAUGCACACUCAUGCAGCCAACCAUCAGUUCCCAUGGCAGCCACGUGUCUUCCAACAAGUAUAUUCCCUUUCUUUGGCUCUCCACAUUUGUGUUCUAUUUUUAUUUAUUUAUUUUAUCUUGAUUAGUAGUUCACAGAACAAGCAUGAGAAGGAUAUGAGUAGAUAUGCCAUGGCUAUGAUCACUUCUAACACUAAACCCUCUUAAACCAAGUGAGGUGUGAAUGCAGUAUGCAAGUCUAAAUAAUGGUGAAAGAAUAAAAACAAAGGAGAAUGCAUGUAAGAUGUAUAUAUAACUAUAAAUAAGGAUUCAAAAUGAGGGGAAAAAUCAUCAAGAAGGGUGAACCAUGGGUGAUAAGCCACUUUAAGGUUCAUCCUUUGGAUAAAUAUUAAAAGUUAAAGAGUAUAAAAUGUCUACGUAUGUUGUCAAUUAUUUUUUUUUCACUUUUAAGUUAAAUAUAUUUUUAUUGUUAUAGAUGAAGUAAUGAAUGCCACCACAUUUAUUAUAUUAAAUGUUCAUUAAAAGCCUAUAAAAUUGUUUCCUAUCCCCUGUAAAAUGCAUCCCAAGCAAAGAAAUAAAUUUUCUUUCUCUCUUAUUCUUUAUUUAUUUUUAUUUAUUAUAUUGUUCAUUCUUUCAACUCUCUUAAUUAUCUUUUAUGAUUCCUUCCUCUCCAUUAUAUAUUAUUAUCAAAAUAAUAUAUAGUUGUUCUCUACUUUUACUUGCGUUGCAUUUCCUCCUUUUACAACAUGUUAUAAGCAUGAAUUGCCCUGAAGGUAAUUCUCAUAUCUUAAACUUGAAGUUAUUUAUAUAGAUUAAAAUUUUACAUAUUUAUAUUGCUAUUGUUAAAUUCAUUUAAUUUGUGUUAUAUAUUAUUAAAACCUAUAAGCAAAUUAUUUGAUUUUGAUUAUAAUCAAAAGUUAUACCAAUGCUAUUAAUUUAUAACUAAUUCUAGUAAUAUUGUUUUGUCAUAUAUCUGAAGUUAUUUAACAAUGUCAAAUCUCACAAAACUCGAAUUUGUGGUACUUGACAUUUCGGGAAAGAACUAUAUAUCUUGGAUCCUUAAUGCUGAAAUACAUCUUGAUGCAAUGAAUCUUGAAGCUACGAUUAAAGAAGGAAAUCAAGCAUCCUUGUAGGAUCACGCAAAAGCGUUGAUUUUCCUUCGCCAUCAUCUCUAUAAAGGUUUUAAAAAUGAGUAUCUUAUAGUAAAGGAUGCUUUUACUCUAUGGAGUAAUUUGAAGGAAAUGUAUGACCGCCAGAAAAUUGUGAUUAUCCCAAAAGCUUGAUAUGAUUGGAUGCACUUAAGGUUGUAGGAUUUUAAAACUAUUAGUGAAUAUAAUUUGCACUUUCAAAUUUAGCUCUCAAUUAAAGCUACGUGGAGAAAAAAAUCACAGAAGAAGACAUGUUAGAAAAAAUGUUGCUACAUUUCAUGCCUCGAAUGUGCUCUUACAACAGUAAUACCAAGAGCGUAGAUUUACAAAAUACUUUGAAUUAAUACACUACAAGGAAAAAUAUAUAUGGUGACAUUUAUAAUGAGUCACCCUAAACAUAGGGUGUUGCUACAACAUAGCGUCACCUUAUCCACUGACACCAUAGAAGGUACCAAUUGGUGACGUAUUUGGAAGUGACACCAAAGCAGAUAAAUGGUGACGCAUUCAAAAGCGACACCAUAUAUUUUUAGUGAUGCUUAAUUUGAUAUAGAGUUGUGUGAGAUAUAUAAGGUGUCAUAUUAAAUGCAUCAUCUUUAAGUUAUGAUGUCACGUUAAAUGCAUCACCUUUGAGUUAUGGUGUCACAUCAUUGUAAAUGAUUAUAGAAGAUAUGAUUGUUUUUUGUUGAUUAGCCUAUAGAAUUUUGUAAUGGUUAUUAAUAAAUAAGAUCAAAGUGUGUAAAUUUUGUCCAUAAAUAUAAUAAUCAUAUUACAUUUAGCUUAUAUUUUCAUAAUGCUUAUGGAUUAACUUGUAAUACAUUACAUCAUCCACCAAUAUUUGUAUAUCAAAUGUUCACAAAACAAUAGUACAUCAAACACAUCAAACCCACCAAAACUAAAAAAGAAAAGUGAAUACACAUUAAAACAUGAUUUAGAAAUGUUAAGCAUCCCAACAUUCAUGUAUACCUACAUUUCAUAUGCAUAAAAAUAGCUAACUAUAAAAUGACAUGAGUUGCAUCAAAAAACCCAAAAUUCUCAAUUCCAAAUAAAGUAACAUUUAUGUCAUAUAAUGUAUGACAUAAGAAUCACAUCUAAAAACCCAAAUCUUGUCACCUCUUUCUCUUUUCUUUUUAUUCUUCAUAUUGUCCUCCUAAGAGUGUAUAUCUGCAUUUUAUAGUUUAAUGAGUUUUAGAGUUCUUAUUGAAAAUAAAAAUGUGAUGUUAUAAAAAAUAAACAAAUCUAAGCACUAAUGUUUUCUUUUUUCUUUUUCCUAUUUUGAUAUAAAAAUAGUUCAUAAAGAAUAAUUAAUGCUAUAUAAUACCAAUGGAAAAUUUAUAUAACAAAUAAGGGACUCACCAUGCAUGAUCACGAUACAUGAACAUGAUUCAUGAUUAGUUAUAACACAAAAGUAAUACAUUCUCCUUUAAUUUCAUCAAAUUCUACUUGAGAAUGUGUUUUUUGUCAUCAAACUGAAAUCAAAUAAGAAUAACAUUAAUAUCACAAUAAUUGGAAGUAUGAAACCAUGUACAAUUCAUUAAAUGAGUAAAACCUUUAAUGCAAUAACUGUAGAAUCAACAAUUAUUUCUUUAAUGAAUCUCAUAACAAAGUAAUCACAUUUGAACUCAAAUAAAAACAAUUCAAUAAAUAUAAAAUAAAUCAAAAUUACAAAAUAAAAAUAUAAAUCUAAAAUUUUAGAAAAUACUAAUCUUCCACUUAAAAUCUACACUUUUUUAAAUUUAUUUUUUAUAAUUCAUUAUGCUUUUAAAAACCAUUUUUUACAUCUAAUUCUUUUUAUAUAUUUUUUAUUUCUUGGAAGGAUUUUCUUAAUUUCAAUAUUUUUUUAAUGUUUGUUUUGUGAAAUAACAUUGUCCAUUAAAUUUCAUCUCAAUUAUAUAAAAUAAAAUUUUAGUAACAAAAUAUAAAUUUUUUUUCAACUAUUAAUAUGAUAAAUAGGACAUGAUAUUAUAACAAGAAUGAAAAUUGUGUAUAUAAGAUAAAAAAAAAAAAAAAAAAAACCUAAUUCAUUAUUAAGAAAUGCUAAGAGAAAAAUUAGUAUGAGAAAGAAUUAAAGAACCUUUCAUAAAAAUUAUUGAUUUUUCAAUGCAUAAGUCCAAUUGAUAUUUUUUUUUUCUAAGUAAAAUAAUUAAUAAAAAAUUUGUAUAAGAAAAAAAUAUUCAAAUAAAAAUAAUAAUAAAAUAAAAACACCAAAGGAAAAAAUAUUCAAUAUUUUAAAUUUUUGACUUUUAAUAUUCUUUAGAUCAAUAAAUUGUCAAACAUCUUUUUCUGAAAAAAAAAAUGAAGAAAAUGAAGAGUUUUAUGGAAGGAAUUGGAAAAUUUUUUAUAAUUAAAGGAUUUUAUAGAAAUUUCGUAACCUUGAAAGGAAAAUUUCAUCACCAAUCUCAAAUUACUCCAAAGUUUGGUCAAUGCAUAUAAAGACAAUAAGAAAAUAAGGCAAAAAUAAAACAUAUUUUUAGAAUCCUUUUGCAGGAGAUGACAAUAUUGAGAAUAAUUUUCUCAAAAAUUAUUUUCCAAAUAUCACCAACCCAUUUCCUCAUCACAACAUACUAUAAUAUUCUUAGAAAAUAAACAAAUAGUUCAAUUAAAGGAAAUUUCAUAGAAAAUCAAAAGAAAAUUAUCAAACAUCUUCUUUAAAAAAAAAAGGAAGAGUUUUAUGGAAGGAAAUGAAAAAAUUAUGUAAUAAAAGGAUUUUAUAGAAAUUUUCUAACCUUGAAAGGAAAAUUUCAUCAUCAAUCUCAAAUUACUCUAAAUUUUGGUCAAUGAAUAUAAAAACAAUAAGAAAAGAAAGUAAAAACAAAAAACAAAAAACACAUUUUAAGAAUAUAAAAAAUAUGAAUAGAACAAGAUGAGAUAUUAACCAUAAUACCAUGUAAAAGAAUAGAAAAAAAAAACAAAAUAUAAGAUUUGAUCAUUUUUAUAAUUAUAAAAAUUUUCAUUCCUAUUUAAAGUUUUAAAAAACAAUUCAUUUACAUUGAUAAAUAAAAAAAAUUAAUUUCUCAUUGUUAAUUCCAACAUUCCAAACUGACUCUUAUAUGAUAUGGAAACUAUUUCAUUUUUCCUUUUGUGAGAGAUGACAAUAUUGAGAAUAAUUUUCUAAAAAAUUAUUUUUCAAAUAUCACCAAUCAAUAUCCUCAUCACAAUAUUCUAUAAUAUUCCUUGAAAACAAAUAGGAAGUCCCAUCAAAGGAAAUUUCCUGCAAGAUCAAAAGAAAAUUUCAUGUUGUAAAAUGUUUAUCUCUCAUUUUGAGUAUAAAAUAUAUUAAAAAAUUAUUCAUUUUUCUUAUUUUCAUUCAUUUUGGGAUUUAUGGGUUUAACAAUGAAACAUAAGAUAUGGUGGAAUGUUAAACCUAAUUUUUACUUUCCUACAACUCAAUAAAAAAACAUUAUUUACAUAAUCCAUAUUACAGAUAUACCAAAUCAAUGAAUAUAAAUCAAUUGUACUAAUAAAGAUUUUGAUAUUAAUAAAAAAUAUUAAAAUGAUAGAUCUAAGAGAUUUUGGGUGACCUGAGAGUCCAUGAAGCAAAGAAGAGCAGUUGUGUGUUAACUAUGAGUGUGAGAAGAGGUAGAAGAAAAUUUUGGCUAGGGUUAUGGAUGAGAUUUUUUUUGGAUUGUGGGUAUAUGGAAACAAUGACCUUUUUAUAUACUAUCAUUAUUCUCAAAGUGGGCCCAUUAAGUUAUAAUAUUUUUAACAAAUUAUUUUAUAUGGUGUCACUUUUCAAACAUUGACACUAUAAACCUAAAAUUAAUAUCAUCGAUCCUAAUUGAAUGUUUUUAUAUGAUGUGUCACCUUUGUAAAUUUUAAGUCAUAUGGUGUCAUUAUUUUAAAAGUGACACCAUAAAUAGUGGCACCAUAAAUUAUUUUUGUAGUAGUGAUAUCAUGUCUUCUUGUUGUUGAACAAAAUAAUGAGCUUUUGAUGAGAAAUCACUAGUCUCAUCCAAUUGGAUCUGAACCAUUCCCUGAAGUGAAUGCAAUAUCAUCCCAAACUCAUGGACAUGGGCAAGGACAAGGAAAUGGUUGUGGUCAUGGAAGGAAUCCCCGAUAUAAUGGUUAUUAUGGUAAUAAUUCCUCAAAUUCUCAUAAAAUGAAAGCUUCAUUGCACCACCAAAAGUGGAAUAAUACUGAGGCAAAACAAGAAAAUGGGAAGUGUUUACAAGAUAAACCUCCAAAGAACGAUGAGAAUAAUUGUUAUAAAUGUGGUAUGAAGGGUCAUUGGUCAUGUACCUAUCGUACACUCAAACAUUUGGUCAACCUUUACCAAGCAUCAAUAAAAGCAAAAGGAAAAGAGAUAGAGAUGAACUUUACCAAUGGUGAUGGAUUGGACCUAACCUACUAUGACAUUGAUUUCUUUGGAAGUCCUAGUGAAAAAAUAGACCAUUUAAUAAAUGAUGAGAAUGCUAACAUUGAUUGGUGUUACUUUAUAUAUCAAAUAAUAUAUUAUUAUGUCUUAUAUUUAUAUCUGAUUAUUACAUUUUCUUUUAUAUUAUUAUUUAUAUUAUGCCUUGUUUUUUUUAAUAUUAGUUGUAUCUAAAAUCCACGUGUUAUUUGGUCUCAAGAUGAAUGAGGAUGAUGUAUGUUUCGCAAAUUGUUAAACCACACACACAAUUCUUCGAGAUAAAAGAUAUUUCAUUGAAUUGACAUUGAUAAAAGCUAAUGUAAGUACCAUAUUUGGUACUACAAGCUUAGUUGAAGGCUCUGGAAGAUGACACAUAAUGCUACCAAAUAGAACUAGAUUUCAUAUAAAUGAUGCUUUAUAUUCUAGCAAAUCCAGAAGAAAUUCGCUCAGUUUUAAAGAUAUCCACAAAAAUGUACAUCAUAUUGAAACUAUGAAUGAAGAUAAUGUAAUUAUCUUUACAUUACUUCCAUUAUAUUUGGCCAGAAGCUUAUAAUAGAAAAACUCUCGACUUUCUCCUCUAGGUUGUAUCAUACAACUAUAAAGCCUAUUGAAUCAUAUUUUGUCGUGAACCAGAAGUUCAACGACCCAAAAGUUUUUGUCCUUUGGCAUGUGAGACUAGGUCACCUAGGGUUUUCAAUGAUGCGUCAAAUAAUCGAACACUCACAUGGGCAUCCAUUAAAGAACCAAAAAAGUCUUUUGCAUAAUGAAUACUCAUGUGCUACUUGCUCACAAGGUAAAUUGAUAGUCAAACCAUUUUUAACUAAAGUCAUAUCUGAGUCACUAGUCUUUUUAAAAAGAAUACAUGGGAACAUAUGUGAGCCUACCCAUCCACCAUGUGGACCAAUUUGUUAUUUUAUGAUCUUAAUAGAUACUUCUACUAGGUGGUCACAUGUUUGUCUCCUUUUUACACGUAAUGUUGCCUUUGCCGACUCCUUUCACAAAUGAUCAAAUUAUGAGCACAAUUCCAAGGUUAUCCAAUUAAGAUAAUACAUCUUGAUAAUGUCGGCGAAUUUACUUCUCAAACAUUCAUUGACUACUGUCUAUUGGUAGGAAUAAAUAUUGAGCAUCCUAUUGCUCAUACUCAUACCCAAAAUGGUCUAGCAGAAUCCUUCAUCAAAUGUCUCUAAUUAAGAGCUCGACCAUUACUAAUGAAAACCAAAUUAUCUACUUCUACUCGGGGACAUGUUAUUAUGCAUGCUGCAACUUUAGAUUGUAUUCGACCUACAACUUACCAUGAAUACUUCCCUCCACAACUCAUACUUGGAAAAUAACCAAAUAUCUCUCACUUAUGAAUAUUUGGUUGUGCAAUAUAUGUACCAAUUGCACCUACGCAAUGCACUAAAAUGGGUUCCCAAUGAAGACUUGGGAUUUAUUUAGGUUUUAAUUCUCCAUCUAUCAUAAGAUAUUGUUAGAAAAAUUAAGCUAAUCCAACCUAAGGUAAUCAUCCUAGAAAGAGGAGGAGAGGAUGAAUAGAGUGAUGAUUUUUUUUUUAAAUUUAAAUUAUAUGAAUACGAGAGACAAUUAUAUGCAAAUAUAUAAUAAAACAAUAUAAAGAUAGAUGCAUAUAAGGAUCCCAUCUUGAUCCUUAUACAAAUGAAUAUGAACUAGAAGUUCAAAUGAUCAUUUAUUUGCAAAAUCUUGCAAACUAAUUACCAGAUGCAUUCAUUGAUAUAAAGAAAGUGACAAAAUCACAUAGCUCGGCUACAAAUACUCCAACACGGAUUGAUGUCCCUGUAGGACAGUUAAAAAAUGAACCUAAGAUAUGCCUAAAGUGUGGUAGACUUGUUGGCUCAAAUGAUGUAACUCCUUGGAAGAGGAGAACAUAAGAAAAACUUGGCACUUUAGAAGAGGUCAUUAAAAUGACUGAUUAGUCUAAAAUUGAUAAAUCUAUAGCCCCAAAAGAGGCACAAAUAAUGCAAAAAGCCCAUGAAGAGGCACAUAUUAAACAAGAAGCCCUUGAAGAGGCACAUAUUGAACAAGAAACCCUUGAAAAGGCACAUGUACCUGAAAAUUGUGAAAUCUUAGUAAGUUAUGUACACAUGGGAAAAAAAUGGGAUCCAAAUAAUAUUGUUAUUAACAAUAUUUUUGCUUUUCAAGUGGCCCAUGAUAUCAUAAGAAAUUAUGAAGAUCUUGAACCACGAAAUAUGGAAGAAUGCCAACAUAGAAAUGAUUGGCCAAAAUGGAAAGAAGCUAUGCAAGCAAAGUUAAACUUAUUAACAAAACGAGAAGUUUUUGGACCUGUACUCCAAACACUUGAAGAUGCAAAGUUUGUUGGGUAAAAAGGGGUAUUUUUACCAAGAAACAUACUCUCCCGACAUGGACAUAAUCAUAUUUUGUUUCUUAAUUAGUUUGGUAGUCUCAAAAGGAUUAGAUAUGAUCCUCAUGGAUUUUAUUACAACAUAUUUAUAUAGAUCCAUAGAUAAUGAUAUAUACAUGAAAAUCCCUGAAGGAUUUAAACUGCCUCAAACAAAUAAUGCAAAGACUUGUAACAUGUACUCAAUCAAGUUAUAACGAUCCUUGUAUGGAUUAAAGUAAGUGGGACGCAUGUGGUAGAAUCGCCUUAGCAAAUACUUACUAAAGGAAGGGUAUGUGAAUAACCCUAUAUGUCCAUGCAUCUUCAUUAAGAAAUCAGAAACCAGAUUUGCAAUUAUUGUAGUGUAUGUUGAUGACUUAAAUCUCGUUGAAACUCCUGAAGAGCUCAUAAGAACAAAAAAUUACUUAAAAAAGGAAUUUGAGACGAAGAAUCUUGGAAAAACAAAAAUUUUUAUUGGUUUGCAAAUCGAGCAUUUUCCAAAUGGAGUUUUAUUCCAUCAAUCAACGUACAUUAAGAAAAUUUUGAAGUGUUUUUAUAUGGAUAAAGCGCAUCUUUUAACCUUUCCAAUAGUUGUCUAAUCACUUGAUAUGAAAAAAAAAAAAAACAUAUUUCAGCCUUGCAAAAAAUGUGAAGAAUUACUUGAUCCUAAAGUACCAUAUAUUAGUGCUUGGUGAACUUAUAUAUCUUGCCAAUUGUACAUGUCUAAACAUUGUUUUUUUUUGUCAAUUUAUCAACAAGAUAAAGUUCCACUCCAACUCAAAGACAUUGAAAUGAUAUCAAACAUAUAUUGCACUAUCUUUGUGGAACUACUGAUGUGGGUCUAUUUUACUCAAGGGAAUCAAGCAACAAUUGAUUGGAUAUGUAGAUGUAGGAUACCUUUCAGAUCCACAUAAAGGUAGGUCAUAAACAGGGUAUAUGUUUAAUUGCAACGGUACUACUAUUUCAUGGAGAUCUGUCAAACAAUCAAUGAUGUCAUAUUAUCAAAUCAUUCAAAAAUACUUGCAAUUCAUGAAGCAAGUCGUGAAUAUAUAUAACUAAGAUCUAUGAUCCAACAUAUUCGGGAACCAUAUGGACUCUCCUCUAUCAAAAGUGACUCGACAAUAUUAUUUGAAGAUAAUGUUGCAUGCAUUGCACAAAUAACAGGAGGUCAUAUUAAAAAAGAUAGAACUAAACACAUUUCAUCAAAAUUAUUUUAUACACAUGAACACCAGAAAAUUAGUGAAAUUAGUGUGCAACAAAUACGCUCAAUUGAUAAUUUAACAGAUUUAUUCACAAAGUCAUUUCCAACCUCAACAUUAAAGAUGUCAAUACACAAGAUUGGAAUACAUCAACAUGAUGGAGAGUUUGCUUGUAAAAGGGUGUUAGUGUAUUGUACUUUUUUUCCCUUUAUCCAGAUUUUGUCCCGUUGGGUUUUACUAGCAAGGUUUUUAAUGAGAAAGUCCUAACAUAUCAAGAGUAACUUAAAUAAUUAUCAUAAUAUUGUACUCUUUUUCCUUCACUAGGUUUUCCUAUAUGGUUUUUUACUAGCAAGGUUUUAAUGAGACAUAUUCUUCUAAUGUGGUUGACAUCCAAGAAAAGUGUUAUAAAUAAAGUAAUGAAUACCACCACAUUUAUUAUAUUAAAUAUUAAUUAAUAUUAUUUAUGAAUUCCAUUAAUAUUCAUUAAUGGAAGCCAUUUGGAAAGCCUAUAAAAUGGCUUCCCAUCCCCUGUAAGAUGUAUCCUAAGGAAAGAAAGAAAUUCUCUCGCUCUUAUUCUCUAUGUCUUUCAUUCUUUCAACUCUGUUAAUUCUCUUUUCUGAUUCUUUCAUUCCCAUUAUAUAUUAUUAUUAAAAUAAUAUAUAGUUGUUCUCUACUUUUAUUUACGUUGCAUUUAUCCUCGUUUUACAACACUUAUUUUUUUCUUUUCCUUAUUUUAUUUUAUUUUUUUCCCUUCUAGUUAUUAUAAUUAUUAUUUCAAAUUUUUUAUAAAUAUUAUAUAUAACUUAUAAUGCAAUAAUAAUAAUAAUAAAAUAAUUUUACAAAUAUUGUUUCAUUCAUGUAUUGAAGACAGUUUUCUUAUAUAAACUUUCAUAAAUUUUCAAUUGUUUUUUACAAUAUGAUUAUUAAGAAAAUAUUACAAUAAAAAAUUAGUAUUGAUAAUUAUGAAAAAUCAAAAUUAAAGCAUGUGUUAUCGUACUUUCAGUGUACUUAUAUUGUAAUUUCAAUGCAUAACUAUGACACAUACAUUUUGGAACAAACUUAAUAGUGUUAGAAGCGUUGUCUUAUCCUACUAUAUUGAUUUCUAUAUUAUUAAGGCAUCCCAAUGAAUUAGCAUCAUAUACUAGAUGCAUUCUUAUUAGCAAUAAUUCUUAUAAUGAAACUCAUACACCUUAUAAAAAAAAAUGUCUUAUAAGGUUAAUUUAUAGUAGAUGAAAUGUUAAAAAAUAUAUAAAAUAUAUGACAACCAUUCAUCAAUGCCUGUUUAAAAGGAAAAUUUUAAAAUACAGUUAGGUUUUGCAGUAAUGUAUAAGACAUUUAAAGUAUUCAUGUUGUAAGAUCAUUAUAUUUUUGUGGUACGUAUACGUUGGCUUUUAUAUUAAUACAUAAUAUCGGUGUACUAGCAUUAUACAUUUAAUGAAUCAUUAUUAUGCAUGAUUUUUAUAAUAAAGCCUAUAAGUUUUAAGAAUUAGAUGAAAGAAAGAUCAUAUUCUAAGAUUGGUUUAUAAUCAAUGACAUUAUGAAAAUAAAAAUAUGAAUAAUGAUACAUAUGAAAUAUUAAUAAUAUAAAACUAAUAUCAUAAAUAAUAAUAUUAAUAAUAUGUUAAUAAUGAUGAUAAUAAUAAAUAUAUAAUUAUAAUUUUUUUUAAUAAAUAGUAUAGUUAGUCUUAACAUAUAGUAAAUAAAGCACAAAAGGUAGAAAAGAAAAGUAGAAAAGUAAAGUUAUAUGGGAGUAGGAGGAAAAGACAAAAUGAUGUAAUUGGAAUUAUGAAAUGAUCAAAUUAUCAAACUAUAACUUGUGAAUUUGACAAGACUUUGAGACUUGGUGACCCUUAAGGGAGAGCUUAUCAUCACUUCGAGCUAGGUGACCAUUUUUAAAAAAAUUUCGAAAAUAAAGCCCAAGAAAAAUUUAUUUAUUAAGAAUAAUAACAAUUUUGUAGUUUUUUAAUACAAAUUAGAUAUUUAAUUUAUUAGAAUCAUUUUGAUGGUAAUGACAAACAAAACAACUCCUUAAAUAGGUGAAAUAAUUCAUUUUCUCAGUUUUACAUGCAAAAUUAUUUUAAAACAAAAGGGAUAAUACAUUAUUUUUGUUCAUCAAUCCACAUUUUGACUUUCAUUUUAAAAUCCAUCUAUAAAAAUCUCUCUUUAUAUAUAUCUGCCUAGAUUGCCUAACCAUCUAUUCAGUCAUUGUCUAUAACUUCUUGCCUGAUUAUCAAAUUAGAUGUUCAUAUUUGCAUAUAUUUAUUCAUUCCACCAUGUAUUUUGUUGGCUUAUUUGUAAUGUAUACAAUUUUGAUUAUUUGAAAACCGAAUUUCCCCUAACCCACUAAUAAAAAGCAAGUAAAAGUCCGACCAAGAGGGGUGUUCUUGGCCGGUGGCCUUCCUGAUAAGUCACCUUAGCCGUAGACUAGAUUUAGAUUUUGCAAUUAGUACCUUUCUUUUCCUUGUAGGAAUCACUAUCAUCUUGACCAAUCUAGCCAUGUACCAAAAAGUCAAUUUUGCAAAGUUUAAGAAGUUUGCUUUAACCCUGUUCAUCAUAGUUGACAGAAGUUAGAAUUACAAUGAAAUAUCUAGGAGAAAAUGUCCGCUGGAGCAGAGAGAGAGAGUGAAGGCAAUACAUUCAGUCAUGAAUUUGAUGCAAAUCCCAAAGUACGUAAUUGUGUCGAAUACUCUCACCAUGAUUGUCAAUCUAUCGGAUCAGACGAUUACUAUGUUUGCCAAAAAUGCCUGGGCCGUAUGUGGAAUAAAUCAAUUCCACAAGGAGGGGAAACUGCAAAAUUCCGUACAAGGUCACUGGAAAACAGGCUAAUGCAGCCAAGGUAAUAAGAAUCCAUGCCUUAUUUUCACCAAAGAGAAGAUAGAUUGCGCUACUGUAGGCUAUCAUCAUGAAUGUUACGGAGAGGAAUAGAGUAACAAGGCCAAAUAUCAACCUCCUGGGAAGGGCAAAAAUAAAAUCAUCUUCUGCAUAUCGUGCCGUGAGAAUGGAUAGGCAUAUCAGCACCGAAGCAAUGGAUAGGAAGAGGGAAAGAGCAUCCGCAGCUGCAAAAACUUUGAAGGCCUUUUCUUUGGAGAAAUUUGGUAUGCCAGUAUCAUCAUGGUUGCCACCCGGGAUGGUAAUUGCUGCUGCAAACACUACAGUAGCAAUAAGCGCUGCUGCCAAUGUGUAAAAUUUUGCUGUGCCUUUCAUCCAUUUCUCCCCUUCUUUUAUCAACUUUUUAUGUUCCUUUAUAAAUGCCAUUUUCGGUUUAUCUCCAUCUCUGUUCUCAGAUUCACUGAAGGCUCUCGGGGCAUAUUUUUCAAUUUCCUGUGUAAAAAUAAAAAAGUUUCUAAGAUACAGAAAAAGAGUGGAUAUGCAUAAGAAAAUUAAUUCCCCUUCAAAACAAAAAUUAUUACCUUAAACCAAUGUAACUCGCGUUGCAUUUGUAGAGCUGCACCAGAAACAAGACUGAGCCGGUGCGGAGGGGCCAAUUUUCCAGCCAAAUGCAAGAUAUUAUCGUUAUUUGUAUCAUCUCUGGUUCGUAUUAUAAGUUGUCUAUGCAUACCGGUUUCGCAGAUGAGGUUGAAAAUCUUUUCAUAACGAUUUAAUACUACCAAUUUGAAUACAUCCUCAUCCAGAUACUCGAGUGCAAAAGGAUAUGACUUUAUAAUCUCUUCCAGAAUCUCGGGAAUCCCAUAUUUUGCCCCAUUAAUGAAUGAUUGUCUAAAUAUUUCCUUUGCUCUUGACACUUUCAAAACUUCAGUACAUAGGUGGUUAAGCAAUUGAAGAGUCAGAGUAUGCAUUGUUUUUGUUUCUUGGAUAUGCUUGAUGGGUGGUGGCACUGCAAUUAAAAUUAUAUUAAGGACAACAUAACAUUGCAUUCAAGACUUUUGCAUGCUUUAGUGGUAGUUUUGUUGUGUCCCUUACCUAACCAUCCAACCGGUUCCCAGAAUAUUGCAUUUGCCUUUCGGCAAGCUGUGUGCAACGUAAAAUUGAAGCAGGUCAGAUGCAAAAGCAGGACUAACAGAAGAAAAAACAAAAAAGCAACCCUGAACCAAGUACCAAUUAAACACUAAUCUAAAUUAAAGUGAUCGUGAGAAGUUGCCAACUCAUAUUUCAUAUAUUUCCCUUAAACCGUCGCACUUGAAUUUAAAGCCUAAGAAUCAAGAAGCUCAAUUACUCGAUAUUCACAAAAUCUAUCAAAGCAAUGAAAAUUGUGUAUCUCUGAGUAGGGAAUUUGAUUGUAGAGCUGAUUUCAAAUCCAUUAAGGAAAAAAAAUGCAGACAAUUUUGUGAGGACAAAUUAAAAUUGUGAGGACCUCGAAUUCAACAAAUUAGCAUUUCUCUACCGGGUGCAAUUUGGCAAAUUGGUUUGACCUUACUCGAAUCUCGGUGAAGUUGAGAAACCAUUUUUAGUACUCAAGUUAGGAUUUGGUCGAGUUUCUCAACCAAAAGUUAAUUUUGGUUAAGCUCAAUUUUGGGCUGAGUUCAGACUAAUGCUUCAACAAUCUAAGCUGAAUUAAACUCCAUUAAUAUUUUAUAAUAUUUGUAGAAUGUAUUACUAUAUAAUAAUAUCAAAUUUUUUUAUAAAAUAAGUUUAAGGGAAAAAUCAUCAAAAUAUAUUAAGCUAACUCUCAGAAAUUUGCCUACCCCCUUGUGAAUACUAUUUGGAAAGAAAAUUAAUUAGGAAGCCUCUUAAGCAAGCCGAAAAGGUAUCUUGUCCUUUGUAGCCUAUGCAUCCAAAAGUACAGGGCCUAAUGAACAUGAGACCCAAGCAUGGUGCCUACUACUUCAUCACAUGUACGGAUGGUUAUAUCUACAAGUCCAAAGAAUUGCUUUGAUUUAUAUGUUAUAGGAAUAUUGUAAAAAAAUUGAAAAGAAAAAACUAUUACAGCAUUAAGGAUAAAUCAUGGACAUGAGUAUCCAUUGAAGAGUUUUAAAAAUCUCUAUGAUGAAAAGGAAAUCCAAAGAACAAUCAAUAUCUUCAAGGACUCCAUUGUAAAAUGGUUGAACUGAAAAAAGUAACCAUAAACUUUUGAUAUGGUUCACUCAAAAAGGCACAAGCCAACUAUCUAACAUCUUUUGGGGUGGGAAAGGAGGGUUACUAUUUUGAUUACAACUUAAAUCUUGAAUAGAGUGCCCUCAAAAUCAAUUACUUCAAAUCCAUAUAGUUAAGAAGCCAAACCUAACUCACUUGUGAUCCUAAGGGUUAGCAGGUUUAGUUCAUGUAAAUUCUCAUAGAUAUUGUGCUAUAAAGGAAACAAGUGCACUUUCAUUAGAUAUUCUAAUAAAUGAAAGGUUGCGUGAUGCUUAGUGAACAACUCAAUGGGAGUAUAAUUGAAAUUAAGUCAUAUGAAGUUAAUUUCUUAUAGGAUGAUAUUUUGAGUAAAGGAGCAUUGAACAGGAGUCUCAAUUUAUUUGAGGCAAUUAAACCAAAGGAAAAUACUAUGAUAUCUCAUAUCGAAUAAGGGAAAAAGUUAUAUAAAUAGAAGCUUCUCUUAAUUAUUUAGACACAUUUUAAUGUUAUGAGGGCUCUUUGAGCCCAAAGUGGAUAGUAUAUAUUUACAUGGUUGGGAGUGAGUCAUUACAAAUGGUAUCAAAGUGUAUCCUCAUAGAUCGAGAUAGAAAAAUUCAGUAUGUGACUUACUAACAAUUGCAUGCAAGCUCCCCAUGAAUUGGUAUUCAUAAUUUAACAAGAUGAAUGUUAUCAACCUCUCAAGACUACCCCUACAAUCCUUGAGUUGUAGAUCCUCCUAUUAUAUGAUCAAUUGACAUACUCUCCAAGAUACGUCAAAUUCCACUUAAGGAAUUAUCGUGGCCACAAUUUUCAUAAUCACAUGUCCUUAGGAUCACCUAAGGGGACAUAAUGUCUCAAACCCCUAAGAUAUCAUGGUGCUUAUCUUGAGAAUACCUAUUAUCACAUGGCUCAAUCAUAGUGACCCAAUCUAUAGAGAAUAUAUGAGCACUUUAGGGUCUCACUCAUGGGUCAAAGCCAUUGAAGACCUUAGCACUAGAUCAAUAUUCUCUAAAGGUUGAGAGCUUAUACAGCAUAGCAGCUUGGUGAAGUCUAGACUACCUAAUGACCAAUGUCUGACUCACUGUAAAUCCUAUUUAAUGUCUAACCUAUUAGAAUUGAGCCCUAAAAAGAAUGACAUGAUGUAACAGAUAGAGAUUUAUUUAUAUUUUUUACUUUCUCUUUAUUAUUUCAUUGACAUGAAUUGGUUAAUUAGAUGAUCCUGUAUGGUUAAUUAAUCAAUUAGGACUCAUUUUAGGCAAUAUUAAGUGACCCAAGCCUUAGUGGACUCAAGUCAUUUAAGCCUAGUAGGGAAUCGCUAUAAAUACCAUUUAAGGGUUAGGGUUCCAAUCACUUUUUGAAAGACAAUCAUCUUCUACAUCUACAGAGAGAGAGCCUAUCGUUCCUCUCUUCCAAAGCCCACAUUUUGGAGUGCCAAGAUCAUGGAUCAAGUCAUCAAGCAAAAUAUUUUCGGUGUAUGAGACCUCUGGACUCUUUAGGCUUCAUCUUCAUUAAGCAGAAUUGAUUUGAGAACCAUUUAAAUCAAAGGUAAAUUUUGUUAGCCCAAGGGUUCUCCUAAUCGCAUUUUGAUGAUAAUAAACCAUGGUUAAGUCGUUAAUUGGUUUGAAUUAUAAAGAAUUUCAGGUAUUAGUUUGGAAAUUCAUCAAAGGACUCAAUGGAUGCAAGAUCAAGACAAUUGGAAGACCCUUUAAUAAUAGGAAAUAUAUGUAAGAUGAAUGCAUGGUGCACUUAGGAUUUCAUAUUUUUUCAUGCUCUUUAAAAACUAGGUAUAGGCAUUAAAGUUACAUUUCCGUCAAAACCCGGGUUUUAUCAAAUGAAACUUAGGAAAAUUGUUUCAUAAUUGACAUAUUAAUUGACCGAAAUACCUUGCCUAAGUGUUAGAAGAGAAAAGAAUAAAAAAAAAGAGGUUUUGAGGCAAAAAAUGGUGAACUGGUCAAGGUAUUAGUCAACUGACUCAACCGAUUAGGGCACCGGUCAAUCGAUUACACCUUCUUGAUCAAGGUCUAGUUGAGAAAUGCAAUAAAUCUUCUCUCUCUUCUUGUAGCUUUGCAUUCCUGGUCGAGGGAUAUGCCUUCUUGGUCGAGAUCCGAUUGAGGUUUGGUCAAGGAUUAGUCGAGGCGUAACGGUCACCUACCAUGCAUUUAUUGUCCAAUGGCUUGUAAACCGGUUGACACUCAACUCGACUAAUCAAGGCUACUUUUUGGCAUUUUUGGUUCCCAAUGCUAGAAACCUAUAAAUUGAGAACUCCGCUUCAUUUAUGAGGUAGAGAACACCUGCAUUUAUUUGUCUACCUACUUGUUUUUGCCUCAAAAGUUCUCAUUCUUUCCUUAGUGCAUUAAAUCUCCAUUUGCAUAUUCUUUAGUGCACCUUUGUGAUUCUUCCUAACAUUUAAGUUGUAUUUGAGCCCUUGUUGAGCUAGGUUGAGAGAUUCAAACUUAUCAUUUGAGUGUUAAAAGCUUCAAGUGAGUAACACUUGAAGGGAUUGUGUAAUAUCCCAUUAGAGUUGGAAUCCAAGUGUAAAGGUGAUUAAAAGCUUGGUUGAAGCUUCAAGUAUAGUGGAUUCUUCACUUAGUUAGGAGGUUGAGGGGAGUGGACGUAGGUAAGGAAGUGUUGAACCACUAUAAAAUCUGAGUUUGCUCUUUCUAACCUUAUCUCUUUAUAUUUGUGUUUCCUUUGCUUGAAUUCGUUGUGUUUGAAAAAUAUUUUUUUUAAACCCAAUUCACCCCUCCCCCCCUCUCCCUUCCCCUCUUGGGUGUUUUCUAUAUUAAGAUUAGCCUUUUAUUUUCUCAAAGUUUUUAAUGCUUGUUCUUUAGAUUAUAAAAUGUUAAAAUUUUGAUUUUUGCUUCUGUUGCAUAAGAUUUAGAGCUCUAGGGUAUUUUGCAUGCACCUAUACAAUCUAGGGUUAUGGGAAUAGAGAGAUCUAGGUUUCACAACAUAACUAAACACACUAGCACACUCACCAUAGGAAACCCAUCCUAAUGACUAGGGCAAGUCAUCCUUCCAAUAAGGAGGUAGUGUACUAUAGCCUUAAAUGGAUUAUUGAAGUCCAUGAACUAGUUGUGAAUGAGUCAUUAACUUGCAAGGAAUCUAUGACUUAGAUUUUCCAUGUAACUCCUAAUUCACUCAAGUCAUGUACAUGCAAGUAAUGUAGGUUUGAAUGCUUAACAUACAUAAUUCAUAAAUAGGAUAGUAAAUAGAAAAUCGAAGCCAUAAUGAAAGUAUUAAUGAACUCCAUUUAUGGUUACAUCAUAUCAAGCUUUUAAAGAAUCUAUCCCAAUAUCAUGAUCUUAUGAUGCAAACAUGAAAGCUUCACCUUAAUGCCCACAAUUACAAUUAUGAGAUAGUUCCAAGUUUUUUUCCACACACAUCUAAAUCUAGUGAAUUAAUAUGUAAUGGUAAAAUCCCACUUAGUGGCAUAAUCUAGUAGGUGGCAAGUCACUACUCAAGGUUACUAUCUUGUCGAGUCACUCAUAUCCUUAGCAAGAUCUUUAACAUCUAUAAAAACUCACUCCCAAUCAAGUAGAUAUUGUUUACUCUGAACUCAAAGGGACCUUAGAGAUUUAAGACACAUUUGCAUGGUUAAGAAGAGCUCUUACAUACAUAAUGCUAAGAACUUUUUCCCCUAUUCAAUGUAGGCUAUCAAAACCACCCCCAUGAAGACAUAAAGUCCUCAUUGUGUCCCAUAGGAUUAUAGGAAAAAUUGGAUUUUAAGGGAGCCAGUACUUCCCUAUGGGUCUAGUGGUUCCCACUCAAAAUCAUAUUCCUUUGUAAAAAAUUAUUUGAGGAAUAGUUGGAUUCUUUAUUUGUAUGUGUGUAUAAGAGCAUUUUGGUACAUACAGAAGAUUGCACUAGCACAUAUAAAUAGUCUUUUUAGAUUCGGAUAAUUAAUUAAUUGUAGCUCAAUAGAGCAAAUUAUUUAAUUAAGACCCAAUGAGUGAGAUUAAGUAACCCAAAUGUAAGAUUAGCUCAAGUCACUCAAACUAAGAGGUAAGCCUAUAUAAACUCCUUAAAGGGUUUAAGGCUUAGUACUUUUCAUCCAUUCAAUCUUCUAUCUUAAUAUCUAUCCCCACAGAGAGGAAUCUAACAUCCUUAUGUGUUAGGACAGAGGAAAGAGAGCUAUCAAGCAAAAGAUUGUGAGGUAUUUGAGAUUUAAAUUAACCUUUUCACCAAUUAGAUUCAAUUCCUUGAGCACUUAAAUCUAAUAUUCAUUGUUUUGAAUUAUCCCAUUACAUAGUUCUAGCAUUUAUGUGAAGAUAGUAGCAUGCACCUAAUGAUCUAGGGCUUGAAGUUAAGUAAUCUAGAUGUUCCAACACAUGAGAAGCCUGAAAUUUUUAAUAAAGCUCUCUUAUCCCUACUUGUAAUAUAUGGAAGCUACAGUGAAAUAGCAUAUGAAGUUUAUUAUCAAGAACUCUAUUUGAGAAUUAAUUGAACUAUUGUUAAGACAUAAGACCUUAAUGAAUAAGUAGGUUUUUAAGGUCAAACUUAAGGUAAAUGAUGCAAGGUGUUAAACUUAACUCAUGAAGAAAGGAUACAACCAAAAUGAGAGUGUAGAGUAUAAAAAAAAAAAAAAAAGAACUUCUCAUGAGAAGUGAGGUUUGCCCCAACUCUCCUUAUUCAAACCAUUAUCACAUCUUUGGAUUUUAAAUUAUAUCAAAUAAAAAUUCAAAUUGUUUUUCUAAAUGGAGAACUCAAUAAGAAGAUCUAUAUAAAUCAACUAACUUGUUUUAUGGCAACUAAAUAGAAAGGUAAAGUUAACAACUACAAAGGUCUAUUUAUAACCUACAAUAAUCAUCUAAACAAUGGUAUAUUACACUAAUGGGUUUAUGAUGGUCUAAGAACACUAUUGCAUGUUUGUUAAAUGGUGUAAGGGUAGAUUCUAUAUUCUAUUUUUUGUAUACAAAUGAAAUGUUGGUUAGGGAUGAUAAUGAGAUGGUUGCCUCUAAAGUGUGAUGGUCGUCAACUUUUAAAAUGAACAAUAUCCUUAAAGCAAACUAUGUGUUCAAAGUUAUGAUCCUAAUCAAUCAAUCAAGGAGACUUCACUACAAGAAAUAGAAUAAUUAGCGACAAAAUUUUUAGAUUGGGAAAAAAAAUUGUCCCUAAAUGUAUCAAUUAGCGACGAAAUUAAAAAAUUGUCUCAAUAUUUUUAUAUACAUAGUUUUAGAGACGAAAAAUGUAUCUUUUUGUUUCCAAUUAUAUUAAUAUGCAAACUUUCAAAAAAAAUAAGUUGUUCAUAAUCAAUUUUGCGACGAAAGUAGACAUUUAGGGAUGAUUUUUUUUUUGUUGCAAGAUAUAUAUUUUGGCGAUGAAAUAAUUUAUUUAAUGUUUUGUUACUAAAAAUGUUAUAGAGAUUUAGAGACAAAAAUAUAGCUUUUGUCACCAAAUAUACUGAUAUGAAGACAUUCACAUAAGUAAGUUAUUCAUAAAAAAUUUGGCUAUGAAAGUAGACAUUUAAGGAUGAUUUUUUUUUUCAAGAUAUAUACUUUGACGAUGAAAUAUUUUGUUGAAUUUUUUGUUAGUAAAAAAUGAUAUAGAAAUUUAGACACAAAAUUUGUCACUUAUGGUUAUUUUGCAACAACAUGAUAUUUUUAUUUUUAUAUAUUAUUUUAUAUUUUUAUUAGAAUAUAUUACUAAAAUUAGAUUGAACAAUAUUAUAUAAUAUUAAAAUAUAUUUAAAUUUAAUAUAUUACAAUCCAUAUAUGUAGUAUGAAUUUUCUACUCGAGUCAUUAAAUUGGAUGAGAAUUUGAUAUGAGAUUUUAAUAUGUAAAAUUCCUUUGCAUUGAUUAGUCUUUUAUAUAGUGAGUUUUUAAAAUUUUGUUUAAUUAAAUCUGUGUAUGACAUAGUUAUACUUUUGUAAUUGUAACAUUUUGUUACAUUAAAUACUUUUCAAUUAAUGUUAUAUGAUCCAAAAAUAAUAUUACAUUUUUAAAUAUUAUUUUAUGUUUUUAUUAGGAUAUAUUACUAAAAUUAGAUUGAAUAAUAUUAUAUAAUACUAAAAUGUAUUUAAAUUUAAUAUGUUUGUAGACCACCCCUUGGGCCUCUUUCUUUUUUGGGCUGUCUUUGUUGGGCUUGGCCCUUUUUUUAAAGAGAGUAGGCCCGUUUGAGCUUUUAUUUGGCCUACCCAGAUGAGGACAAGUGCCCUCACUUGGCCAUCCAUUUGAGCCUUUUUAUUGCCAUUUUCGGCGAGGGUUUGAGCACGCAAUUCUAGGGCAAGGAGAGGACCUUCCAUUUUGGGAGAAAAAGGCGACGGUUGGGAAAGCAUCUUUGGAGAAGAGAAAAACAGAGUAGAGAGGAUUUGAACGAAGAGAAUUUUUAGAGAGCAGGGCCUUGAGGAGGAGGAACAUCUGGAAACGGAUUGGAGAGGAGCAGAGCAGAGGAGCAGAGCAGAGGAGCCUUAGCUUCUAGAGAGGGCUUUUGGGUCCUCCAGGUAUGGUCACUGUGGGUUUCACCUUUAUUUAUUCAUGCUGUUCUCUUCUUUUCUUCAGAGAGCUCAAAAAUCACUUUGCUAUUUAGAUGUGAGUAUCAGAGAAAGCAUCUGAACCUGAUUGAUUUUCUUUAUGGUUGUUCACGAGCUUGGUGUGGCUUAUUUAUCCCUUUCUCCUUUGGUCUAGCUUGAAAAUAAUCUGAUUAUCUUUUUCUUUUUAACUACAUUGUGCCUUGGAAGAUUACAUCUCUGUUUUUCAUUCAUAAAUCUGGGUUUAGCUUCUUCCCUCUCUAUUCAUAAGCACAGGAAUGACUCAUGACAGAUACUUGGUUAAGAAGACUUCUUUGUUUGUGAGUCUGUUUUGCUAAUCGUGCUUUUGAUAUUUUCUCUAUACUAUUGGAGUUUGGUUUGGGUUCAUUUUGACUCCCCAAGAGGAAUUCUACUGGUGCCCUCCCUGUGUUAUGGGGUGAGUAAUGAUAUUCCUAAGGAUUUUAAGAGAGAAAGAACAGGGGAAGGAAUGUCUCAUCAACCUUGCUGAUUUCCUGGGCCUGUGAACUUCUCAUUUGAGACUGCCAUUGCUUUCUGUAUUAUUAACGGCAUCCCUGCCAUGGUGGAAAUCUCGUCUUCAUCCUAUACAAGAUGUAUCUUCCGUGUAGUCACCAUCUUUGGAACCCGUUGUGAAGCUUUCACUAAGUCAAAUUGUGCUCGGUUUCACUUGUUGCUACUGACUUUGCAUGGAACAAUAUAUGGCCAAGAAAGCUCUCAGGAUUUCCACAGCAGAAACAAGGCCAAAGUGGGGUAACCUUAUUUGAGAAGUGUAUUCAGUAGAGAGAGAGAGGUGGCUUUGUCAGAGAGAGAAAUUUAGAAGAAAAUUUGAGGAAUACCCGGAAUCACGGACUGAGUUGGAGACAAAAACGCGGGUGGCGAAAUUCAACUAGUUAAAAAAAUCUGAAACAUGAGCUCCAAGUCACACAGGAAACUGUGAAGGCACCAGCGAAUGAGGUUUCAAAUCUGGAAAUUAUCUAAGAUUUUUCUUGAUGGUGAGAUUCAAUGGAUUUUUUUUCUGGGUUGCAAAAGAAGCCAGUGCAUGGUGAGGUUAACAGUUCGUUUUCUUCUUCAAGGAUGGGAACUCCAAGGACUGACCACUCGGUGGGGUUAGAAGAUGUAUUUUGGCGGAUGUGGAUAUCAUGAACUAUCAAUUUGUCAAAAUAAAUUUGGUGGUUCCCAUGGUUAUUCGAAUGUCAAAGAAUUGCAAAUCAAGAAGACUUUCCAAGUUGGAAUUUACUGGAUUUUUUUAAAUCCUUGCGGCUAUUCUGGUUUGUGGUUCAGAAGGGUUGAAUUUCGAGGGGCUAUGUUUUCUUUAGUUAAAGAAGAGGCUCAAUGAUCAGUUUAAUCAAAUUUGUAUAACUGGAAUCCUAGUGAUCAUGAUACCAUGUGAGUGGAUGGAUGUGAAUUGCACGGGAGUGGAGAAAAAGGGAAUAAGUAUUGGAUGUGGACCCACCACACAAGUGCAAUUAUGGAAAUUACAACACUUUCUCGCCAAGUGGGGGGUAUGAGUAUGGAAUUGAUCCCAAAGGCUGAGGGUAUGGCUCAUUUCCAAGACUAAAAAAAGAGACUAAUGGGAACAACAAGAUGAUUGCGCGUGGUUCCCACCAAAAUUCUUUAUGCAAGGCUACUCUCCUUUUGCACCUUAUGCUUGGAUCUUCUUCAUACUUGGCAUUUCAUGGCCUACUUUCCCAUGGACGUGGGCCCUUUUGCUGCAUGGACAUCCACCUGGCCUCCUCCCAAGGUGAGUUUUAUUUUGCUAUAUUUUCUUUUCAAAAUUUCCUCUUUAGAAAUUUUCAUAGGCGAAUAAAAUUCCAGAUUUAAAAAAAUUCAUGCUGCCAUGUUUUCUUCUUGGCAUGCAUUUUUUAUGAUUUUUAAAAUCAUUUUCUCAAACACCUUGAGUUUUCAAAUAACUCCUCAUUUUCCAAGAGUGGGUUGGGCCCAUUUGGACCUUUCUAUAGUUUUAGUAAGUUGCAUUUUAGGGACCUCAUUGGGGGGCCUCAUUUUUAGCUCCUUUGGGCCAACAGUCAAGGAAAUUUUUUUCCUCUUAUCUUUUUUUGUAGCCGCAGGGACCACCUUAGGAGGCCACACCUAGCCAGAGACAGUUUUGAAAAUUGAGAAAUUUUGAAUCAUGAACAAUAUUGAGAAAAUUAUUUUAAAUCAAGGAAAAUGAGAAGAUUUAUUCAUGUUUAUUAAAAAAGGUGAGAGUUGGGAAAACUAUUCUAAAUCAAGGAAAAUUGAAAAUUUUUAUUUAAAAUUAAAAGAAGUUUUUAAAAAAAACUUAUUAAAUAAUAGAAAUAGUGUAAUAGCCCAAUAAAUAAUAGAAAUAAUAUAAUUCAUGAAACUGAACAUGUUAUGACCGCACAAUAUAAUAUAAAUCCCACACGAAAUGCAAUGACCACCAUGCAUCAAUAAUUCCUUAAUCCUUAAAUAAUCAAAUUAAUGUACUUUGGAUGUUCGAUAAAAUUAUAAUAAUAAAGGAAACGUCAAGCUCAUUCAUUCAAAAUGUUGGAUCAAACAAAGCCAAACUAAUUCUAACUAUUCCACAUUAAUCAACGGAUUACAACUAAAACAAAGUGAAAACAUGCAAAAUAUGGCACCAAUUUAAUUAAAUCAAUUAACUAAAGUUAUAUAUAUAAACAACUACAAAUUAAAUAUUGAUGCUUCAAAACUAAAAUUAGCAAACUUUAAAACAAGUAAACAAUAACAUGAAAUUAACCAAAUUAAUUAAAUAAAAUUAUAUACAUCUACUAAAUUGAUAUUAAAUCCUAAAUUAAAAUAAUAAACUUGGAGUAUGAAACCAAUUAAAUUAAUAGAAUAAAUUAUGAAACACACGUAAUCUACAUAAGAUGAAUGAUUGAGAACUAAUUCAAAGGAGCACAAAAAUAUUAACAUGGAUCAACUAGAAUAACAAUUAAUAAUUUUAUGGGUAAUAUAAACUAACAUGGAUAUUUUAAAUAGCAACUAAAAAUUUUAAAAAUUUUAAAAAUUAACAUGAAUCAAUAAAAUAAGAAUUGAUAAUUCCAAGGAUAAUAUAGAUAAACAUGGAAUUUCAAAAUCCAACAAAAAAUAAUAAAAAAAAUGACAUGAGUAUUCAAAGUUACCAACAAAUAAUUUUACAUAAACUAGCAUGAAUAUUAUAAACCUACAUUGAUAUUAGCUUCCAAUUGUUUAAUUUUAAAUUUAAAACAAUACAAACCAUUGACACCAUGACCCUGUCAACUUGAAAUUAUAUAUAUAUAUUUUUUAUUCCAUAAAACAAACCACUAACAUGUUGAAAGUAUUCCAUGACCGUAUAAAUUAUUUAUACUACAUGAAUUCAUAUAUUUUAAAACGUAAACUAAAGCCCUAAGAACUAAUAACUUUCCAAAGGAAACUCUAAACAACUACAAAUUAAUAAGAAACAAUUCAAAUUGAUUUUUAAAUAUUCUAAAACAUAAAUAAAUAAAACAAGAACUAAUAACUUUCUAAAACAAAUCUGAAUGGCUUUCUUCAAAAAAAAAAAAAAAAAAAAAUGAAGGUCACACACUUUUCUCAAUCUCAAAUUCAUUUUCUUUUAAUCCAAAGAUGAUUAACAAAAGAAAUGUGGCAGCUGCCUGUACUUCCCCACUCUCAUUUUUCAUUUAAAAAAAAAAAAAAAAUAGAACAUGGGCACAUUAACAUAAACAACCCAAUGGCCAGCUGUAACCAUGCAUGGCCUCACCGUUUGUAUCCCAUUAACUUAUAAUUUCCAUGGCAACCACAGAUCAAUAGUUUCAUUAAGUCCAACCACAAACAUUAUUUCUAUUUCAUUGAACAGCUGACCACAUACUUCAAUGUCCUUAUUAUUGUUAUUUUUUACUUUAAUCAACAACACCAACACCGAAACUCAUUAUAGGAAACAGAAAGAAUCUUCCAUCUAUGUUCAAGCCAAUCAAACUCAAGUAUAUGAAAAUCAAAUUUUGAGACUUUAGAGAUAUGAGAUAUUAAAAUAAAUAUUCUUCCAAAAACAAACAUGAUUUAUUAACAUUCCAAACUCCCUUCAAAACACAGUGAAAAUGGUGGCCUUUUAGGCCCUUAAAUCCUACCAGUUUUGGCUAAGACCUCAAGACAAAAACACGAAACUUCAAGCCAAAACAAAUGACCAAAAUGGCUGAGCCAAACCUUAAAUUCAAAGAGGUUCAACACUGUUUGAAUCUGGUUUUAGGGCUAUGGACGAGAUGGUGUCGAGAUGGGUUGCUGCAUUCCCAAAAGAUUAUAGCUGGCGGAUGUGAUCUGCAACUACUGUGUGCUACAUGGACUCGCGAAUGGCAACGUUGAAGAGGUGGCUGCUUUGAAGAAGACCUAUGCUAGUUCUACUACUCGGCCCUCCGUAGCGUCUUCUCAAAGCUCCUUAUGUUGGUAGAGAAGAUGAUGGUAUGGAGAAGACGCUCAUUUGGUGUUUGGCCUCCUCUCAUUCGCUCUUGCCCGCUACUGAAGAUGAUUCCCCCCGUGAGCUCUCCUCCGCCUCCCCAGAAAAAUCUUUCCCUGCAAGCUCCAACCUCCGCUUCCUUCCUCAACUCCUCUAUUUUCUUCUAAAAGUCCAACUCUCUUCUCUCUCUCUCGUUUUCGAAUGCUCUGUUAUCCCAUCUCUUCUAGCACCAACCGCUGCUUUCUCUCUAAAAAAUGGACCCAAGAAUCAGCUCUACUCUGAGCUCCCUUUCCCGCACUCUCUUCUCAAAACUCAUUGAAAAACCCCCCUCAAUCCCGACUCUCUCUUUCUCCCCUUCUCAUCCUUCUCUCUCUCAAAAAUUCCCCAAACCUCUCUCAGCCUCCUCCGUUUUUCCCCUUUCCCAAAAACCUCUCUACCCAUACCUCCCCAUUCCUCUAAGCUGUAGGUGGUCCUUUCAGCAUGGUGGUGACAUGAAGCCAAGGUCAAAGUGGGAGAGCUUUUUUAAGGCCCUCAUGUCUGCCCAAAACUCCCUAUCUCUCCAUGGCAAAAACGUUAAUGAGGCCUUAAAAAAACCAAAUAAAGCAAAGCCACCUUUUGGUGGUCUACAAUACCACUUUACUUUUCUAAAAAUAUUUAUAAUAUUAAAUAAAAAUAUAAUAUAUUUUAAAAUAAUAAAAUUUCCUUUUAUUUUUAACAUGCUCACAUUUAAAUAUUAUACAUAUUUUUUUAAUAAAAUAAUUUAAUUUGAUAAUCUCAAAUAUAAAAAAUAAUAUAAUUAAUUAUUAAUUAAUUAAUUUAUUUUAAAUUUUUUAUAAUUAUUUUUAUUUUUAUAAUUAUUUUUAAUUUUAAUAAUAUAUAAAUUAUAUAUUUAAUUUUAAUUUUUUCAUAAUUAUCACAUUGAGAGCCGUGCACUAAAGGAAAGGUGGAGUAUCUGCUCAUACCCAAACAUCAUUUAAAUUAAAAUAUCACAAUUUCAUCAUUUCACCUAGUCUUUCAAGAGUAGCCACUCAUUCCUACAGGACUAGACACUCAUGUUCAAUUCCACCUACCACUUCUCUUUGGUUUGACCAACAAGCAAAGGAAACCUCCUUGCUAUGAGCUUUAUAUGGUCUCCUUGCACAUGCAUUCUCCACGUGGAAACCAACAUCUCUCAAAAUAAAAAUAAAAAUAAAAAUAAAAGCCUUCCAAAUAAGUGGUCUACAAUAAGUUGUCUGUCAAGACUCAAGACCAAAUCAUAGUCAACUUUUUAUGUGACCCACCACCAAAAAAUAAUGGUAUAUAUUAUUUAUGUAUUAAAUAAUAUUGUUAAAUAACGUAUACUUGGAUACCAAGCUAUUGAAUAAUGCAAAAAACUAAUAUAUAUGUAAUAAACCAAUUACUUAUCAUAAUUAUAAUUUUUUAUAUUUAUAAAAAAAUAUAAAAAUUUGUUAUCAGCUAGAAUAAACUGAUUCUAAUAUUAAAAAAAUGAAAAGAUAAAAUAUGAAAUUCUUAUCAACAAAUUAUUGUAUUCAAUGUAUCAAAUAUCGUUUUCAAAUUUCAAUUGAAAAAAUUUGAGAUUUAUGCAAUUACAAUAUAAGGGAUUUAUAUUUAAAACAUGUAUUUUAAAAAUAUAUUUAGUAACCAUAUAAAAUAAUUUAUUAUAAUUUAAAAUUUCUAAUUAAAUAAAAAUAUUAAAAAAAUUUAAUUAAAUAAAAAUAUUAAAAAAAUUUAAUUAAAUAAAAAUAUGUUUCACAUCUCAUUUGAAGGAAAUUAUUUCUCUUUUGAUAUUUGAAAUGUAAACAAAUUAAUUUACAAGUAUGAAAACACUAAUUAAGAGUGUAUUUGGUAGUAUUUUUAUUUGAAGUGCUAUUAACAUAAAUGUUUUAUGUGAAAGUAUUUUUAGGAAAAUUACCUAUUAAGAGAGAGUUUUAUAGUAUUUUUAUUCAAAAUGUUUUUUCAUAGAAGUGUUUUCUCUACAAAUGUUUUUAGGAAAAUUAUUUAUAAAGUAUUUUUUUAUAAAACAUUAUAAGUGAUUUUCUAAUACUAUAAUUUUUUUUUAGGAACUACUACAAGUGAUUUUUGAAAAUUAUAAGUAAUUUUUUUUAUAUUUGUAAUAAUAUUUUUGAAAUUUUGUCUAGCAUAUAUUUUUUUCCUUAAAACACUUUUUAUGUUAAAAGGUAUUUCUUAAAAUCACUAACAAAUGAAAUGUAAGAAUUCUACCUAAAUAUCAUUAUUUAUUAUAUUCAACCUUAUAAUUCUACUAAGUUUGAGAAGUUCUCCCAAAUUUGACUAAUAUUUUAUCAACCAAAAGUUAUAAUUUAUAUUCUAAAUAGAUUAGUCAUAAAAGUCACUAUAAUUCAUAUAAAUAAGAAUUAUACUAUAAAAAAAAAAAAAAGGAAGCCACCCAUUUUUUAUAUUUUUGCCGAUCAUCUCUUGUAUAAAAUACCACAUUUUGAAUGAGAACAUUUACAAUAUAGAAGUGUAAAUAUGAAUACACACAUGUUAUUUAUUGUUUUUUUAAAUGGAAGAUAAAGAUAAUUGUAGAUGAUGGUGAGGACUUAUAUUAUAUUCACAAUUUUUUUUUCUUUUUCAAUUUCUAAUAAUUAUAGUAGAAUCCCUUUUUCUAAAUUUUAAAACUUUCUUGGAAAAGGUGAUACCAUAUAUAGUAUAAUCAAGAACCCUAUAUCAUGUGAAAAAUGAUACUACAAAAAUUAAUGUAAGUGUAUGUGAUACCCAUAGUUAAAUUUACUUUUUUAGAUUUAUUUUAUUUAAUAACGAUCUCUUAUAUAAUUUUUGUUCAUUGUAUAACUUAUACCUUAUAAAGACCAUGUGGUCCAUUAACACAAUUAUUAUUCAAAACCUUUAACCUGUUAUUAGGUAAGUUUUACAACUUGGUCAUGUCAAUCACUUUUACAAAUUAAUUUGAUGUUUUAUUUUUCAAAUAUUAAAAUGAUUGAAAAUAUACUGCAAUAGUAUCUUAUGCAAUAAACCUCAUUUGAAUUUUUGUAUACUUCUAUCAAUGAUUUUGUAUAUGAAAGUUAUUCUAUGGUAGACUUAAAUGCAAAACUUAAAAAUAAAAAAUAAAAAAUUGUUCAUACCAAUCACCUUUCCCCGUAUAUUAACAAACAUCUACAUAUAUAUAUAUAUAUAUAUAUAUAUAGGAAACGGGAAUGGAGGAGGGAGACUAUUAGGCUCACUAUGAAGCUCUUGUAGCUUUGUAGGUUUGCAGGUGAAUCAUUAUUUUAGAAGGUGAUGUCAAAGAUAGAGAGAAGGAGGUGAUGUUGAUGUAAAUGAUGGAAAGAGAGUUGACAUAAAUGAGAGAGAGAAAGAGGAAGACAAAUAGGGGAAACUAAUUUUUAUUUUAUCAAUACAAGUAAAUAUUACUCAAGAUCCAAAAAAAAAAUUCAAAAAUAAUAAAAUUUGAUGAUUUGAAAAUUGUAAUUUAUACAUCUAUAUUUAUUACUUUCCUCAUUUGUCUUAUGUUGGGAUGGUUAAGUUAAAAGAAAGGUCAUGUUGAAUAUAAAAUGCAUGCUCAAAAUUGUUAAAUUAUAUAUAAUGAUCAUGUCUAUAUCUUUAAAUAAAUAUAAUAAUCUAAUUAUAAUUUUUUAGAAAUUUUAUAAAAAGAUUACAAAAUUUAUAUAAGAAUUUUGGAAUCCUCAAACUUGAUAUUUUUUGAAAUCUAGUUGGACUUGAAGAAGAUUAUUUUAUAUUUUUAUUUUUCAAUGUCCAUCCAAAAGUUAAUUAAGAAGUCAAAUAUCUUCACUAAUUUUCCCUUCUAAUUUCUUUUUUUAGAAUUUGUAUUUUACAAUUAAUAACACUUAUACUAUAUAACAUUAUUAUAACCAUUUAUAAUUACUAAGUACAUAUAGGGCAUAAUAAAGGAAAGUGACAUAAAAACAAUAUAUAUAUAUAUAUAUAUAUAUAAGAAAACUAUUAAAACACACAAUUUCGUGAUAUGAAAAGGAAAAAAAAAAGCAUAAAAAUAUUCAUAUGACAUAUUAGAAAAUGAUAGUCCAAUUUAACUAAAAACUAUUGUAAUAUCAUUUUUAGAUGUAGUUUAGGUAAUAUCAAAACUAUAGGAUCACAUUGGCAUAUGUUCCAUGUUGUAGUAUUAGCUAAUGAAUUUUAAUUUGCAAUCAGUUUUUUUCACUCAUGAUAAUCUUCUAUUUUUCUAUUUUAAUUAUUAGUAACAAUAUAUUUCAAAAAUCAAUUUUUUUAGUGAGUUAUAAUUAAAGUGUAAAAGUAAUUUUGAAUUUUGAUGGUAAACUAAAAUUUUAUAAUUUUACAAGAGACAUUCAUAUUAAUAAUAAUAAUAAUAAUAAUAAUAAUAAUAAUAAUAGUUAAUUGAAAUUAAUAUUCUUCAAUUACUCUUAGACUUUAAUUUAAUUUAAUUAUUUUUAUUUAUAAAGUUAUAAUCCUAUUUUGAUUAUAAAAUAAUAACUAAUAUUAUUACAAUAUGCAUUUGUGAAAAACUAAGUUUGAGAUAAGGAAUCUUUAUGCUUUAGCUGUAUAAAAUAAAUACUCAAAUGUAAAAGGAAAUAUAUUUAUAUAUAUUUUGAGAGGAUGUGAGUAUCAAAGUGGGUCAGUGUUCAUCAAUUACAAGAAAUAAAAUAUAGCUUUUGGAGAGUUAGUGGUGCAACACUAAGUAAGAGAAGUGGCUUUUUUUUCCCUGUCCUUUCAUUCAUUAUGAGAACUACAAGUCUAUAUGCCUAGAGAAGUGUUUGUUUAGAGCAUAAUGAUGUUGUGAACGGGAGACAAACAAUCAAACCUUUUGGUGUUUGCUUGAAAGGAAGGGUUUGGAUUUACCAACUCGCAACUUGGAAGUUGGAACUAGGUUCAGUUGUUGAAACCGAGGGCUCAGGAAACUUCCACUGCGUACAACAAUUAAACAAGUCUAUUCAGAAUUUAUAAAAAUUUUCAAUCAAAAAAAAAAAAAAAACAGUCCUUUAAUUAAGCAUGUAGUACAUACCCAUAUAAUUCAUGAUUUUUAAUUUGUUUGUUUAAUAAUAUUUUUAAUUACUGUUACUUUUUUUUUUAAUUUAAAUAUAAGUUAGAUUGCAUUUUAGUCCUCAUAUGAAUUCUCAUCACCAGUACACUUCAAAAGGCGUUGUGAUUUAUUAAGAAUAAAAUAUGAAUGAUUUAAAAGACUACCAACUUCUCAAGUUUAUAAUAUUUAUGGAGUUUGUGGGAGCAUGAAGACAUCAAUGUAGAAGAGAAGGCAAGACACAUCCAUAUCAACAGGAGCUUAGUUGCAAGCGUCGUCCAAUGCUUCAAUCAGGCAGAUUGAGCUUUUGUGUACACACUUGUCAGUAGCCUAGAGGAAAAGGACCCUACACUUUGCACUCUUCCAAAUCUUUCCUCAUGUUUUUUUUUUUUUUUCAAAUUUACACGUUCCAAUCCAUUCUUUUCACUAUAUUAUAAAAUCUUUAUUAUAAAAUAAAUAUUUUUUUUAGACUCUCUCUCUUCAUAGCUAUUCAUUUCCCUACCUACUAAUUUCCUUACCAAAAAAUAGGGGACUGGUUUUGGGGGAAAUUCUCAUGUGUUUCUUUUGAGAGGUAGGUCUGAAAGGAUUUUUUAGGGAGCUUUCAGAAAAACAAAUGGGGUGAAAGAGAAGAAAGAAUAGAGAAAGAAAGAGACUUUGGGAGAAGGAGUCUGGACUGGUUUUUGGACAGCUUUGGGGAGGGGGUUUUCUUUUGGGAACUGUGGAGAGCGAGAGAGGUCUGGACUGGUUUUUUGGAGAUAGAGAGAGCAAAAGAAGCCGAGAGAGGAGGCAAGAAGCAAAGAAGAUAGGAUAAUGCUCUCAGGUAUAACCAUUAUAGCUCCCUACUCGUUUCAUUUUAUGAUACUACUCUUGAUCCUUUUACUGCAAUUAUUUUGAAUGUUGCCCUCUGCCUACCUUUUUGGAUCCUCUAGAAUGUUGUUCAUUUUUUAUUUUUUAGUUUUUGAGGUGAAGAGGAUUUCGAAGAUAGAGCCAAAAGAGGAGACUUACGGACUGGCAGUAGGUGGUGAGAAGAUCUAGAGAUUUCUCUCUUUUUUGAGGAGAUUUAAAAAUAACAAUGCUUUGACAUGAAUAUUGCAAAGGUCAUGAAUAAGGUUAAAUUCGUAGGAUUUUUGGGUUUAAUUGACAGGGCACAAUGGACUUAAUUAUAUAUGUUCAAUUUGGAAUCCAUUUUAUGUGUUUCUCAUGGAAAAUGAAUGUGGUGCAAGAGACUCUAAUUUGAUAAUUUUUAAGAAUUUUCUUAUAUUACAAAAGUUUCUAAAUAUUUACAGUAGAUAUCUUUGUUGUGCAUGUUGUAUAAUUUUAACCUCUUCUUAUCAAUUUUCAUUCAUUGAUAUAAAGAAUAUUGGUUAUCUUAAAGAUCAAUUCCAUAUGCAUAAUUAAAAUUAACAGCUAGUUUCUUGAUCUUCUAACAAUUUUCCUCUCCAUUUGUUAUGGUGUUGUCUUGUAGACUUGUUGAGUGGUUGUUGAGUAGCUAAUAUUUCUUUGCAUUAAGGUUAGUAAUAAUUUGGGCUUCACUUCUUCUUAUAUUUGAUUAUAUGCUUGAUAAUUCAAUUUGUGAAGUAUGUUUUCCUCUUUUUUGUUAUGCAUCAAAUUAGUUGAUUGAUCAAAAUAUUUUAUUUCUUUAUAUGAAUCUAGAAAUACAUACUUAAAUUUUAAAAAUAUUUCUAAUAGUGAUAGCAUGUUAAUAUUCAUAUAUGUAGUAUUUAUUUUCAAUUUUUUCCCUUAUAUAGGAAAUACUUAUUAUGUUUUACUAAAUUAUUUAUGAUAUUAAAGGUUCAAUUAAUUUAGCAUAUUAUUAUGAUUAGAAAAUUGUGCUAAGAACAAAAAAAGGGCUAUGUGUCACAUACUACCUUGAGGUUGUUGAAUCAUUUUUUUAUUUAUGAAAUAUAAAGGACAUUCUCUCUUAUCUAUAUGGUUAUAAUGCAUCAGUUUUCUUGCUGAGUUUCCUAGUUAAUCCGAAUCACUAAAUUGCCGCACAAAUGCUGAUUCGCAACAUGUGACCUUAUUUAAAAAAUCUUGCAAAUUAUAUGAUUUGUUUUAGAAGCCUUCUUNNNNNNNNNNNNNNNNNNNNNNNNNNNNNNNNNNNNNNNNNNNNNNNNNNNNNNNNNNNNNNNNNNNNNNNNNNNNNNNNNNNNNNNNNNNNNNNNNNNNUCCUAGUUAAUCCGAAUCACUAAAUUGCCGCACAAAUGCUGAUUCGCAACAUGUGACCUUAUUUAAAAAAUCUUGCAAAUUAUAUGAUUUGUUUUAGAAGCCUUCUUGAACACAUGCACAUGUACCUGAUUUACAAAAAAAGUUAAAGAAGUAAAUUUCUCAUUUUUAUUCUUCAUAUAUGCAUGCAUAAAACCUUAGACUUCCGUUCAAGUAUCUUUGUGUGACAAAUUUUUUUCUUAUUACAUGUUAGAGACAUUGAAGUUGUCAAAGAGUGAAAAUGGUCCUAUCAAUGAAGUAGUUUCAAAUUGACAACUUCUUAAUUUGUCUAACAUGUGAUUAAAAUUUUGUCUACAAAUUAUGCUUGAAUUGUCCGGUUGGACAGUAUAGGAUAACAUAAUGUCUAUGAAAUCACCCUCAUAUGCUUCGCUCAUUUCUUAAAAUUUCGAUAACAUUUCCUUUUGUUCUCUGGGUGCAUAUUUGGACAAGGUUAAAUAAUGUCUUGGCCAUUUCGUGUACUUGGAGAACUAUGGGGAAAUGCUGUCAAAAUUUUGUUGAAGUAUAACGAAGCUUAUUAGUGGUUGAGUCAUAGGGAUUAUGCAUUCCUAUAUGGAAUAGGAACUACCACCUAAAUUAGGAAGUUGGAUAUAUUAGAAUGCAUAAGACACUCAUCAUAUGUUGAUAUGCUCAAAUUACUUUUUUUUUUUUUUUUUUUGUGUAUUCUUAAAUCAUCAUGAUCCAUUUUUAUUAUAAUUUUUAUUUAUAAGGUUUAUGUCUUAGGUAGAAAAUUUAUAAACUUAUUUUUUUUAUUCUAAUAUGAACCUUAAGAUUCUCUCUUUGUUGUUGAGAUUUUAACUUUAAGAAUAAGAUUCUAGAAGGCCUACAACACAAAGUUAAGAUUCAAUGUAAUUUGUUUUAGAAGCUUUUUGUAACUAUAUUGGUAUAAAUUUUAACUUUUUUUUUCUCUACAAUUUUGAUCUUUCAUAGUCAUACCUUUAGAGAAAAUUACUAACAUUGGAAUGUGAAUUAUAACUUAUAUCUUCCUUCAAUUUAAUGUUAGGUAGAAUAAUAAGUACUUUAAUAUUGUCUAUAGGUGUUUNNNNNNNNNNNNNNNNNNNNNNNNNNNNNNNNNNNNNNNNNNNNNNNNNNNNNNNNNNNNNNNNNNNNNNNNNNNNNNNNNNNNNNNNNNNNNNNNNNNNNNNNNNNNNNNNNNNNNNNNNNNNNNNNNNNNNNNNNNNNNNNNNNNNNNNNNNNNNNNNNNNNNNNNNNNNNNNNNNNNNNNNNNNNNNNNNNNNNNNNNNNNNNNNNNNNNNNNNNNNNNNNNNNNNNNNNNNNNNNNNNNNNNNNNNNNNNNNNNNNNNNNNNNNNNNNNNNNNNNNNNNNNNNNNNNNNNNNNNNNNNNNNNNNNNNNNNNNNNNNNNNNNNNNNNNNNNNNNNNNNNNNNNNNNNNNNNNNNNNNNNNNNNNNNNNNNNNNNNNNNNNNNNNNNNNNNNNNNNNNNNNNNNNNNNNNNNNNNNNNNNNNNNNNNNNNNNNNNNNNNNNNNNNNNNNNNNNNNNNNNNNNNNNNNNNNNNNNNNNNNNNNNNNNNNNNNNNNNNNNNNNNNNNNNNNNNNNNNNNNNNNNNNNNNNNNNNNNNNNNNNNNNNNNNNNNNNNNNNNNNNNNNNNNNNNNNNNNNNNNNNNNNNNNNNNNNNNNNNNNNNNNNNNNNNNNNNNNNNNNNNNNNNNNNNNNNNNNNNNNNNNNNNNNNNNNNNNNNNNNNNNNNNNNNNNNNNNNNNNNNNNNNNNNNNNNNNNNNNNNNNNNNNNNNNNNNNNNNNNNNNNNNNNNNNNNNNNNNNNNNNNNNNNNNNNNNNNNNNNNNNNNNNNNNNNNNNNNNNNNNNNNNNNNNNNNNNNNNNNNNNNNNNNNNNNNNNNNNNNNNNNNNNNNNNNNNNNNNNNNNNNNNNNNNNNNNNNNNNNNNNNNNNNNNNNNNNNNNNNNNNNNNNNNNNNNNNNNNNNNNNNNNNNNNNNNNNNNNNNNNNNNNNNNNNNNNNNNNNNNNNNNNNNNNNNNNNNNNNNNNNNNNNNNNNNNNNNNNNNNNNNNNNNNNNNNNNNNNNNNNNNNNNNNNNNNNNNNNNNNNNNNNNNNNNNNNNNNNNNNNNNNNNNNNNNNNNNNNNNNNNNNNNNNNNNNNNNNNNNNNNNNNNNNNNNNNNNNNNNNNNNNNNNNNNNNNNNNNNNNNNNNNNNNNNNNNNNNNNNNNNNNNNNNNNNNNNNNNNNNNNNNNNNNNNNNNNNNNNNNNNNNNNNNNNNNNNNNNNNNNNNNNNNNNNNNNNNNNNNNNNNNNNNNNNNNNNNNNNNNNNNNNNNNNNNNNNNNNNNNNNNNNNNNNNNNNNNNNNNNNNNNNNNNNNNNNNNNNNNNNNNNNNNNNNNNNNNNNNNNNNNNNNNNNNNNNNNNNNNNNNNNNNNNNNNNNNNNNNNNNNNNNNNNNNNNNNNNNNNNNNNNNNNNNNNNNNNNNNNNNNNNNNNNNNNNNNNNNNNNNNNNNNNNNNNNNNNNNNNNNNNNNNNNNNNNNNNNNNNNNNNNNNNNNNNNNNNNNNNNNNNNNNNNNNNNNNNNNNNNNNNNNNNNNNNNNNNNNNNNNNNNNNNNNNNNNNNNNNNNNNNNNNNNNNNNNNNNNNNNNNNNNNNNNNNNNNNNNNNNNNNNNNNNNNNNNNNNNNNNNNNNNNNNNNNNNNNNNNNNNNNNNNNNNNNNNNNNNNNNNNNNNNNNNNNNNNNNNNNNNNNNNNNNNNNNNNNNNNNNNNNNNNNNNNNNNNNNNNNNNNNNNNNNNNNNNNNNNNNNNNNNNNNNNNNNNNNNNNNNNNNNNNNNNNNNNNNNNNNNNNNNNNNNNNNNNNNNNNNNNNNNNNNNNNNNNNNNNNNNNNNNNNNNNNNNNNNNNNNNNNNNNNNNNNNNNNNNNNNNNNNNNNNNNNNNNNNNNNNNNNNNNNNNNNNNNNNNNNNNNNNNNNNNNNNNNNNNNNNNNNNNNNNNNNNNNNNNNNNNNNNNNNNNNNNNNNNNNNNNNNNNNNNNNNNNNNNNNNNNNNNNNNNNNNNNNNNNNNNNNNNNNNNNNNNNNNNNNNNNNNNNNNNNNNNNNNNNNNNNNNNNNNNNNNNNNNNNNNNNNNNNNNNNNNNNNNNNNNNNNNNNNNNNNNNNNNNNNNNNNNNNNNNNNNNNNNNNNNNNNNNNNNNNNNNNNNNNNNNNNNNNNNNNNNNNNNNNNNNNNNNNNNNNNNNNNNNNNNNNNNNNNNNNNNNNNNNNNNNNNNNNNNNNNNNNNNNNNNNNNNNNNNNNNNNNNNNNNNNNNNNNNNNNNNNNNNNNNNNNNNNNNNNNNNNNNNNNNNNNNNNNNNNNNNNNNNNNNNNNNNNNNNNNNNNNNNNNNNNNNNNNNNNNNNNNNNNNNNNNNNNNNNNNNNNNNNNNNNNNNNNNNNNNNNNNNNNNNNNNNNNNNNNNNNNNNNNNNNNNNNNNNNNNNNNNNNNNNNNNNNNNNNNNNNNNNNNNNNNNNNNNNNNNNNNNNNNNNNNNNNNNNNNNNNNNNNNNNNNNNNNNNNNNNNNNNNNNNNNNNNNNNNNNNNNNNNNNNNNNNNNNNNNNNNNNNNNNNNNNNNNNNNNNNNNNNNNNNNNNNNNNNNNNNNNNNNNNNNNNNNNNNNNNNNNNNNNNNNNNNNNNNNNNNNNNNNNNNNNNNNNNNNNNNNNNNNNNNNNNNNNNNNNNNNNNNNNNNNNNNNNNNNNNNNNNNNNNNNNNNNNNNNNNNNNNNNNNNNNNNNNNNNNNNNNNNNNNNNNNNNNNNNNNNNNNNNNNNNNNNNNNNNNNNNNNNNNNNNNNNNNNNNNNNNNNNNNNNNNNNNNNNNNNNNNNNNNNNNNNNNNNNNNNNNNNNNNNNNNNNNNNNNNNNNNNNNNNNNNNNNNNNNNNNNNNNNNNNNNNNNNNNNNNNNNNNNNNNNNNNNNNNNNNNNNNNNNNNNNNNNNNNNNNNNNNNNNNNNNNNNNNNNNNNNNNNNNNNNNNNNNNNNNNNNNNNNNNNNNNNNNNNNNNNNNNNNNNNNNNNNNNNNNNNNNNNNNNNNNNNNNNNNNNNNNNNNNNNNNNNNNNNNNNNNNNNNNNNNNNNNNNNNNNNNNNNNNNNNNNNNNNNNNNNNNNNNNNNNNNNNNNNNNNNNNNNNNNNNNNNNNNNNNNNNNNNNNNNNNNNNNNNNNNNNNNNNNNNNNNNNNNNNNNNNNNNNNNNNNNNNNNNNNNNNNNNNNNNNNNNNNNNNNNNNNNNNNNNNNNNNNNNNNNNNNNNNNNNNNNNNNNNNNNNNNNNNNNNNNNNNNNNNNNNNNNNNNNNNNNNNNNNNNNNNNNNNNNNNNNNNNNNNNNNNNNNNNNNNNNNNNNNNNNNNNNNNNNNNNNNNNNNNNNNNNNNNNNNNNNNNNNNNNNNNNNNNNNNNNNNNNNNNNNNNNNNNNNNNNNNNNNNNNNNNNNNNNNNNNNNNNNNNNNNNNNNNNNNNNNNNNNNNNNNNNNNNNNNNNNNNNNNNNNNNNNNNNNNNNNNNNNNNNNNNNNNNNNNNNNNNNNNNNNNNNNNNNNNNNNNNNNNNNNNNNNNNNNNNNNNNNNNNNNNNNNNNNNNNNNNNNNNNNNNNNNNNNNNNNNNNNNNNNNNNNNNNNNNNNNNNNNNNNNNNNNNNNNNNNNNNNNNNNNNNNNNNNNNNNNNNNNNNNNNNNNNNNNNNNNNNNNNNNNNNNNNNNNNNNNNNNNNNNNNNNNNNNNNNNNNNNNNNNNNNNNNNNNNNNNNNNNNNNNNNNNNNNNNNNNNNNNNNNNNNNNNNNNNNNNNNNNNNNNNNNNNNNNNNNNNNNNNNNNNNNNNNNNNNNNNNNNNNNNNNNNNNNNNNNNNNNNNNNNNNNNNNNNNNNNNNNNNNNNNNNNNNNNNNNNNNNNNNNNNNNNNNNNNNNNNNNNNNNNNNNNNNNNNNNNNNNNNNNNNNNNNNNNNNNNNNNNNNNNNNNNNNNNNNNNNNNNNNNNNNNNNNNNNNNNNNNNNNNNNNNNNNNNNNNNNNNNNNNNNNNNNNNNNNNNNNNNNNNNNNNNNNNNNNNNNNNNNNNNNNNNNNNNNNNNNNNNNNNNNNNNNNNNNNNNNNNNNNNNNNNNNNNNNNNNNNNNNNNNNNNNNNNNNNNNNNNNNNNNNNNNNNNNNNNNNNNNNNNNNNNNNNNNNNNNNNNNNNNNNNNNNNNNNNNNNNNNNNNNNNNNNNNNNNNNNNNNNNNNNNNNNNNNNNNNNNNNNNNNNNNNNNNNNNNNNNNNNNNNNNNNNNNNNNNNNNNNNNNNNNNNNNNNNNNNNNNNNNNNNNNNNNNNNNNNNNNNNNNNNNNNNNNNNNNNNNNNNNNNNNNNNNNNNNNNNNNNNNNNNNNNNNNNNNNNNNNNNNNNNNNNNNNNNNNNNNNNNNNNNNNNNNNNNNNNNNNNNNNNNNNNNNNNNNNNNNNNNNNNNNNNNNNNNNNNNNNNNNNNNNNNNNNNNNNNNNNNNNNNNNNNNNNNNNNNNNNNNNNNNNNNNNNNNNNNNNNNNNNNNNNNNNNNNNNNNNNNNNNNNNNNNNNNNNNNNNNNNNNNNNNNNNNNNNNNNNNNNNNNNNNNNNNNNNNNNNNNNNNNNNNNNNNNNNNNNNNNNNNNNNNNNNNNNNNNNNNNNNNNNNNNNNNNNNNNNNNNNNNNNNNNNNNNNNNNNNNNNNNNNNNNNNNNNNNNNNNNNNNNNNNNNNNNNNNNNNNNNNNNNNNNNNNNNNNNNNNNNNNNNNNNNNNNNNNNNNNNNNNNNNNNNNNNNNNNNNNNNNNNNNNNNNNNNNNNNNNNNNNNNNNNNNNNNNNNNNNNNNNNNNNNNNNNNNNNNNNNNNNNNNNNNNNNNNNNNNNNNNNNNNNNNNNNNNNNNNNNNNNNNNNNNNNNNNNNNNNNNNNNNNNNNNNNNNNNNNNNNNNNNNNNNNNNNNNNNNNNNNNNNNNNNNNNNNNNNNNNNNNNNNNNNNNNNNNNNNNNNNNNNNNNNNNNNNNNNNNNNNNNNNNNNNNNNNNNNNNNNNNNNNNNNNNNNNNNNNNNNNNNNNNNNNNNNNNNNNNNNNNNNNNNNNNNNNNNNNNNNNNNNNNNNNNNNNNNNNNNNNNNNNNNNNNNNNNNNNNNNNNNNNNNNNNNNNNNNNNNNNNNNNNNNNNNNNNNNNNNNNNNNNNNNNNNNNNNNNNNNNNNNNNNNNNNNNNNNNNNNNNNNNNNNNNNNNNNNNNNNNNNNNNNNNNNNNNNNNNNNNNNNNNNNNNNNNNNNNNNNNNNNNNNNNNNNNNNNNNNNNNNNNNNNNNNNNNNNNNNNNNNNNNNNNNNNNNNNNNNNNNNNNNNNNNNNNNNNNNNNNNNNNNNNNNNNNNNNNNNNNNNNNNNNNNNNNNNNNNNNNNNNNNNNNNNNNNNNNNNNNNNNNNNNNNNNNNNNNNNNNNNNNNNNNNNNNNNNNNNNNNNNNNNNNNNNNNNNNNNNNNNNNNNNNNNNNNNNNNNNNNNNNNNNNNNNNNNNNNNNNNNNNNNNNNNNNNNNNNNNNNNNNNNNNNNNNNNNNNNNNNNNNNNNNNNNNNNNNNNNNNNNNNNNNNNNNNNNNNNNNNNNNNNNNNNNNNNNNNNNNNNNNNNNNNNNNNNNNNNNNNNNNNNNNNNNNNNNNNNNNNNNNNNNNNNNNNNNNNNNNNNNNNNNNNNNNNNNNNNNNNNNNNNNNNNNNNNNNNNNNNNNNNNNNNNNNNNNNNNNNNNNNNNNNNNNNNNNNNNNNNNNNNNNNNNNNNNNNNNNNNNNNNNNNNNNNNNNNNNNNNNNNNNNNNNNNNNNNNNNNNNNNNNNNNNNNNNNNNNNNNNNNNNNNNNNNNNNNNNNNNNNNNNNNNNNNNNNNNNNNNNNNNNNNNNNNNNNNNNNNNNNNNNNNNNNNNNNNNNNNNNNNNNNNNNNNNNNNNNNNNNNNNNNNNNNNNNNNNNNNNNNNNNNNNNNNNNNNNNNNNNNNNNNNNNNNNNNNNNNNNNNNNNNNNNNNNNNNNNNNNNNNNNNNNNNNNNNNNNNNNNNNNNNNNNNNNNNNNNNNNNNNNNNNNNNNNNNNNNNNNNNNNNNNNNNNNNNNNNNNNNNNNNNNNNNNNNNNNNNNNNNNNNNNNNNNNNNNNNNNNNNNNNNNNNNNNNNNNNNNNNNNNNNNNNNNNNNNNNNNNNNNNNNNNNNNNNNNNNNNNNNNNNNNNNNNNNNNNNNNNNNNNNNNNNNNNNNNNNNNNNNNNNNNNNNNNNNNNNNNNNNNNNNNNNNNNNNNNNNNNNNNNNNNNNNNNNNNNNNNNNNNNNNNNNNNNNNNNNNNNNNNNNNNNNNNNNNNNNNNNNNNNNNNNNNNNNNNNNNNNNNNNNNNNNNNNNNNNNNNNNNNNNNNNNNNNNNNNNNNNNNNNNNNNNNNNNNNNNNNNNNNNNNNNNNNNNNNNNNNNNNNNNNNNNNNNNNNNNNNNNNNNNNNNNNNNNNNNNNNNNNNNNNNNNNNNNNNNNNNNNNNNNNNNNNNNNNNNNNNNNNNNNNNNNNNNNNNNNNNNNNNNNNNNNNNNNNNNNNNNNNNNNNNNNNNNNNNNNNNNNNNNNNNNNNNNNNNNNNNNNNNNNNNNNNNNNNNNNNNNNNNNNNNNNNNNNNNNNNNNNNNNNNNNNNNNNNNNNNNNNNNNNNNNNNNNNNNNNNNNNNNNNNNNNNNNNNNNNNNNNNNNNNNNNNNNNNNNNNNNNNNNNNNNNNNNNNNNNNNNNNNNNNNNNNNNNNNNNNNNNNNNNNNNNNNNNNNNNNNNNNNNNNNNNNNNNNNNNNNNNNNNNNNNNNNNNNNNNNNNNNNNNNNNNNNNNNNNNNNNNNNNNNNNNNNNNNNNNNNNNNNNNNNNNNNNNNNNNNNNNNNNNNNNNNNNNNNNNNNNNNNNNNNNNNNNNNNNNNNNNNNNNNNNNNNNNNNNNNNNNNNNNNNNNNNNNNNNNNNNNNNNNNNNNNNNNNNNNNNNNNNNNNNNNNNNNNNNNNNNNNNNNNNNNNNNNNNNNNNNNNNNNNNNNNNNNNNNNNNNNNNNNNNNNNNNNNNNNNNNNNNNNNNNNNNNNNNNNNNNNNNNNNNNNNNNNNNNNNNNNNNNNNNNNNNNNNNNNNNNNNNNNNNNNNNNNNNNNNNNNNNNNNNNNNNNNNNNNNNNNNNNNNNNNNNNNNNNNNNNNNNNNNNNNNNNNNNNNNNNNNNNNNNNNNNNNNNNNNNNNNNNNNNNNNNNNNNNNNNNNNNNNNNNNNNNNNNNNNNNNNNNNNNNNNNNNNNNNNNNNNNNNNNNNNNNNNNNNNNNNNNNNNNNNNNNNNNNNNNNNNNNNNNNNNNNNNNNNNNNNNNNNNNNNNNNNNNNNNNNNNNNNNNNNNNNNNNNNNNNNNNNNNNNNNNNNNNNNNNNNNNNNNNNNNNNNNNNNNNNNNNNNNNNNNNNNNNNNNNNNNNNNNNNNNNNNNNNNNNNNNNNNNNNNNNNNNNNNNNNNNNNNNNNNNNNNNNNNNNNNNNNNNNNNNNNNNNNNNNNNNNNNNNNNNNNNNNNNNNNNNNNNNNNNNNNNNNNNNNNNNNNNNNNNNNNNNNNNNNNNNNNNNNNNNNNNNNNNNNNNNNNNNNNNNNNNNNNNNNNNNNNNNNNNNNNNNNNNNNNNNNNNNNNNNNNNNNNNNNNNNNNNNNNNNNNNNNNNNNNNNNNNNNNNNNNNNNNNNNNNNNNNNNNNNNNNNNNNNNNNNNNNNNNNNNNNNNNNNNNNNNNNNNNNNNNNNNNNNNNNNNNNNNNNNNNNNNNNNNNNNNNNNNNNNNNNNNNNNNNNNNNNNNNNNNNNNNNNNNNNNNNNNNNNNNNNNNNNNNNNNNNNNNNNNNNNNNNNNNNNNNNNNNNNNNNNNNNNNNNNNNNNNNNNNNNNNNNNNNNNNNNNNNNNNNNNNNNNNNNNNNNNNNNNNNNNNNNNNNNNNNNNNNNNNNNNNNNNNNNNNNNNNNNNNNNNNNNNNNNNNNNNNNNNNNNNNNNNNNNNNNNNNNNNNNNNNNNNNNNNNNNNNNNNNNNNNNNNNNNNNNNNNNNNNNNNNNNNNNNNNNNNNNNNNNNNNNNNNNNNNNNNNNNNNNNNNNNNNNNNNNNNNNNNNNNNNNNNNNNNNNNNNNNNNNNNNNNNNNNNNNNNNNNNNNNNNNNNNNNNNNNNNNNNNNNNNNNNNNNNNNNNNNNNNNNNNNNNNNNNNNNNNNNNNNNNNNNNNNNNNNNNNNNNNNNNNNNNNNNNNNNNNNNNNNNNNNNNNNNNNNNNNNNNNNNNNNNNNNNNNNNNNNNNNNNNNNNNNNNNNNNNNNNNNNNNNNNNNNNNNNNNNNNNNNNNNNNNNNNNNNNNNNNNNNNNNNNNNNNNNNNNNNNNNNNNNNNNNNNNNNNNNNNNNNNNNNNNNNNNNNNNNNNNNNNNNNNNNNNNNNNNNNNNNNNNNNNNNNNNNNNNNNNNNNNNNNNNNNNNNNNNNNNNNNNNNNNNNNNNNNNNNNNNNNNNNNNNNNNNNNNNNNNNNNNNNNNNNNNNNNNNNNNNNNNNNNNNNNNNNNNNNNNNNNNNNNNNNNNNNNNNNNNNNNNNNNNNNNNNNNNNNNNNNNNNNNNNNNNNNNNNNNNNNNNNNNNNNNNNNNNNNNNNNNNNNNNNNNNNNNNNNNNNNNNNNNNNNNNNNNNNNNNNNNNNNNNNNNNNNNNNNNNNNNNNNNNNNNNNNNNNNNNNNNNNNNNNNNNNNNNNNNNNNNNNNNNNNNNNNNNNNNNNNNNNNNNNNNNNNNNNNNNNNNNNNNNNNNNNNNNNNNNNNNNNNNNNNNNNNNNNNNNNNNNNNNNNNNNNNNNNNNNNNNNNNNNNNNNNNNNNNNNNNNNNNNNNNNNNNNNNNNNNNNNNNNNNNNNNNNNNNNNNNNNNNNNNNNNNNNNNNNNNNNNNNNNNNNNNNNNNNNNNNNNNNNNNNNNNNNNNNNNNNNNNNNNNNNNNNNNNNNNNNNNNNNNNNNNNNNNNNNNNNNNNNNNNNNNNNNNNNNNNNNNNNNNNNNNNNNNNNNNNNNNNNNNNNNNNNNNNNNNNNNNNNNNNNNNNNNNNNNNNNNNNNNNNNNNNNNNNNNNNNNNNNNNNNNNNNNNNNNNNNNNNNNNNNNNNNNNNNNNNNNNNNNNNNNNNNNNNNNNNNNNNNNNNNNNNNNNNNNNNNNNNNNNNNNNNNNNNNNNNNNNNNNNNNNNNNNNNNNNNNNNNNNNNNNNNNNNNNNNNNNNNNNNNNNNNNNNNNNNNNNNNNNNNNNNNNNNNNNNNNNNNNNNNNNNNNNNNNNNNNNNNNNNNNNNNNNNNNNNNNNNNNNNNNNNNNNNNNNNNNNNNNNNNNNNNNNNNNNNNNNNNNNNNNNNNNNNNNNNNNNNNNNNNNNNNNNNNNNNNNNNNNNNNNNNNNNNNNNNNNNNNNNNNNNNNNNNNNNNNNNNNNNNNNNNNNNNNNNNNNNNNNNNNNNNNNNNNNNNNNNNNNNNNNNNNNNNNNNNNNNNNNNNNNNNNNNNNNNNNNNNNNNNNNNNNNNNNNNNNNNNNNNNNNNNNNNNNNNNNNNNNNNNNNNNNNNNNNNNNNNNNNNNNNNNNNNNNNNNNNNNNNNNNNNNNNNNNNNNNNNNNNNNNNNNNNNNNNNNNNNNNNNNNNNNNNNNNNNNNNNNNNNNNNNNNNNNNNNNNNNNNNNNNNNNNNNNNNNNNNNNNNNNNNNNNNNNNNNNNNNNNNNNNNNNNNNNNNNNNNNNNNNNNNNNNNNNNNNNNNNNNNNNNNNNNNNNNNNNNNNNNNNNNNNNNNNNNNNNNNNNNNNNNNNNNNNNNNNNNNNNNNNNNNNNNNNNNNNNNNNNNNNNNNNNNNNNNNNNNNNNNNNNNNNNNNNNNNNNNNNNNNNNNNNNNNNNNNNNNNNNNNNNNNNNNNNNNNNNNNNNNNNNNNNNNNNNNNNNNNNNNNNNNNNNNNNNNNNNNNNNNNNNNNNNNNNNNNNNNNNNNNNNNNNNNNNNNNNNNNNNNNNNNNNNNNNNNNNNNNNNNNNNNNNNNNNNNNNNNNNNNNNNNNNNNNNNNNNNNNNNNNNNNNNNNNNNNNNNNNNNNNNNNNNNNNNNNNNNNNNNNNNNNNNNNNNNNNNNNNNNNNNNNNNNNNNNNNNNNNNNNNNNNNNNNNNNNNNNNNNNNNNNNNNNNNNNNNNNNNNNNNNNNNNNNNNNNNNNNNNNNNNNNNNNNNNNNNNNNNNNNNNNNNNNNNNNNNNNNNNNNNNNNNNNNNNNNNNNNNNNNNNNNNNNNNNNNNNNNNNNNNNNNNNNNNNNNNNNNNNNNNNNNNNNNNNNNNNNNNNNNNNNNNNNNNNNNNNNNNNNNNNNNNNNNNNNNNNNNNNNNNNNNNNNNNNNNNNNNNNNNNNNNNNNNNNNNNNNNNNNNNNNNNNNNNNNNNNNNNNNNNNNNNNNNNNNNNNNNNNNNNNNNNNNNNNNNNNNNNNNNNNNNNNNNNNNNNNNNNNNNNNNNNNNNNNNNNNNNNNNNNNNNNNNNNNNNNNNNNNNNNNNNNNNNNNNNNNNNNNNNNNNNNNNNNNNNNNNNNNNNNNNNNNNNNNNNNNNNNNNNNNNNNNNNNNNNNNNNNNNNNNNNNNNNNNNNNNNNNNNNNNNNNNNNNNNNNNNNNNNNNNNNNNNNNNNNNNNNNNNNNNNNNNNNNNNNNNNNNNNNNNNNNNNNNNNNNNNNNNNNNNNNNNNNNNNNNNNNNNNNNNNNNNNNNNNNNNNNNNNNNNNNNNNNNNNNNNNNNNNNNNNNNNNNNNNNNNNNNNNNNNNNNNNNNNNNNNNNNNNNNNNNNNNNNNNNNNNNNNNNNNNNNNNNNNNNNNNNNNNNNNNNNNNNNNNNNNNNNNNNNNNNNNNNNNNNNNNNNNNNNNNNNNNNNNNNNNNNNNNNNNNNNNNNNNNNNNNNNNNNNNNNNNNNNNNNNNNNNNNNNNNNNNNNNNNNNNNNNNNNNNNNNNNNNNNNNNNNNNNNNNNNNNNNNNNNNNNNNNNNNNNNNNNNNNNNNNNNNNNNNNNNNNNNNNNNNNNNNNNNNNNNNNNNNNNNNNNNNNNNNNNNNNNNNNNNNNNNNNNNNNNNNNNNNNNNNNNNNNNNNNNNNNNNNNNNNNNNNNNNNNNNNNNNNNNNNNNNNNNNNNNNNNNNNNNNNNNNNNNNNNNNNNNNNNNNNNNNNNNNNNNNNNNNNNNNNNNNNNNNNNNNNNNNNNNNNNNNNNNNNNNNNNNNNNNNNNNNNNNNNNNNNNNNNNNNNNNNNNNNNNNNNNNNNNNNNNNNNNNNNNNNNNNNNNNNNNNNNNNNNNNNNNNNNNNNNNNNNNNNNNNNNNNNNNNNNNNNNNNNNNNNNNNNNNNNNNNNNNNNNNNNNNNNNNNNNNNNNNNNNNNNNNNNNNNNNNNNNNNNNNNNNNNNNNNNNNNNNNNNNNNNNNNNNNNNNNNNNNNNNNNNNNNNNNNNNNNNNNNNNNNNNNNNNNNNNNNNNNNNNNNNNNNNNNNNNNNNNNNNNNNNNNNNNNNNNNNNNNNNNNNNNNNNNNNNNNNNNNNNNNNNNNNNNNNNNNNNNNNNNNNNNNNNNNNNNNNNNNNNNNNNNNNNNNNNNNNNNNNNNNNNNNNNNNNNNNNNNNNNNNNNNNNNNNNNNNNNNNNNNNNNNNNNNNNNNNNNNNNNNNNNNNNNNNNNNNNNNNNNNNNNNNNNNNNNNNNNNNNNNNNNNNNNNNNNNNNNNNNNNNNNNNNNNNNNNNNNNNNNNNNNNNNNNNNNNNNNNNNNNNNNNNNNNNNNNNNNNNNNNNNNNNNNNNNNNNNNNNNNNNNNNNNNNNNNNNNNNNNNNNNNNNNNNNNNNNNNNNNNNNNNNNNNNNNNNNNNNNNNNNNNNNNNNNNNNNNNNNNNNNNNNNNNNNNNNNNNNNNNNNNNNNNNNNNNNNNNNNNNNNNNNNNNNNNNNNNNNNNNNNNNNNNNNNNNNNNNNNNNNNNNNNNNNNNNNNNNNNNNNNNNNNNNNNNNNNNNNNNNNNNNNNNNNNNNNNNNNNNNNNNNNNNNNNNNNNNNNNNNNNNNNNNNNNNNNNNNNNNNNNNNNNNNNNNNNNNNNNNNNNNNNNNNNNNNNNNNNNNNNNNNNNNNNNNNNNNNNNNNNNNNNNNNNNNNNNNNNNNNNNNNNNNNNNNNNNNNNNNNNNNNNNNNNNNNNNNNNNNNNNNNNNNNNNNNNNNNNNNNNNNNNNNNNNNNNNNNNNNNNNNNNNNNNNNNNNNNNNNNNNNNNNNNNNNNNNNNNNNNNNNNNNNNNNNNNNNNNNNNNNNNNNNNNNNNNNNNNNNNNNNNNNNNNNNNNNNNNNNNNNNNNNNNNNNNNNNNNNNNNNNNNNNNNNNNNNNNNNNNNNNNNNNNNNNNNNNNNNNNNNNNNNNNNNNNNNNNNNNNNNNNNNNNNNNNNNNNNNNNNNNNNNNNNNNNNNNNNNNNNNNNNNNNNNNNNNNNNNNNNNNNNNNNNNNNNNNNNNNNNNNNNNNNNNNNNNNNNNNNNNNNNNNNNNNNNNNNNNNNNNNNNNNNNNNNNNNNNNNNNNNNNNNNNNNNNNNNNNNNNNNNNNNNNNNNNNNNNNNNNNNNNNNNNNNNNNNNNNNNNNNNNNNNNNNNNNNNNNNNNNNNNNNNNNNNNNNNNNNNNNNNNNNNNNNNNNNNNNNNNNNNNNNNNNNNNNNNNNNNNNNNNNNNNNNNNNNNNNNNNNNNNNNNNNNNNNNNNNNNNNNNNNNNNNNNNNNNNNNNNNNNNNNNNNNNNNNNNNNNNNNNNNNNNNNNNNNNNNNNNNNNNNNNNNNNNNNNNNNNNNNNNNNNNNNNNNNNNNNNNNNNNNNNNNNNNNNNNNNNNNNNNNNNNNNNNNNNNNNNNNNNNNNNNNNNNNNNNNNNNNNNNNNNNNNNNNNNNNNNNNNNNNNNNNNNNNNNNNNNNNNNNNNNNNNNNNNNNNNNNNNNNNNNNNNNNNNNNNNNNNNNNNNNNNNNNNNNNNNNNNNNNNNNNNNNNNNNNNNNNNNNNNNNNNNNNNNNNNNNNNNNNNNNNNNNNNNNNNNNNNNNNNNNNNNNNNNNNNNNNNNNNNNNNNNNNNNNNNNNNNNNNNNNNNNNNNNNNNNNNNNNNNNNNNNNNNNNNNNNNNNNNNNNNNNNNNNNNNNNNNNNNNNNNNNNNNNNNNNNNNNNNNNNNNNNNNNNNNNNNNNNNNNNNNNNNNNNNNNNNNNNNNNNNNNNNNNNNNNNNNNNNNNNNNNNNNNNNNNNNNNNNNNNNNNNNNNNNNNNNNNNNNNNNNNNNNNNNNNNNNNNNNNNNNNNNNNNNNNNNNNNNNNNNNNNNNNNNNNNNNNNNNNNNNNNNNNNNNNNNNNNNNNNNNNNNNNNNNNNNNNNNNNNNNNNNNNNNNNNNNNNNNNNNNNNNNNNNNNNNNNNNNNNNNNNNNNNNNNNNNNNNNNNNNNNNNNNNNNNNNNNNNNNNNNNNNNNNNNNNNNNNNNNNNNNNNNNNNNNNNNNNNNNNNNNNNNNNNNNNNNNNNNNNNNNNNNNNNNNNNNNNNNNNNNNNNNNNNNNNNNNNNNNNNNNNNNNNNNNNNNNNNNNNNNNNNNNNNNNNNNNNNNNNNNNNNNNNNNNNNNNNNNNNNNNNNNNNNNNNNNNNNNNNNNNNNNNNNNNNNNNNNNNNNNNNNNNNNNNNNNNNNNNNNNNNNNNNNNNNNNNNNNNNNNNNNNNNNNNNNNNNNNNNNNNNNNNNNNNNNNNNNNNNNNNNNNNNNNNNNNNNNNNNNNNNNNNNNNNNNNNNNNNNNNNNNNNNNNNNNNNNNNNNNNNNNNNNNNNNNNNNNNNNNNNNNNNNNNNNNNNNNNNNNNNNNNNNNNNNNNNNNNNNNNNNNNNNNNNNNNNNNNNNNNNNNNNNNNNNNNNNNNNNNNNNNNNNNNNNNNNNNNNNNNNNNNNNNNNNNNNNNNNNNNNNNNNNNNNNNNNNNNNNNNNNNNNNNNNNNNNNNNNNNNNNNNNNNNNNNNNNNNNNNNNNNNNNNNNNNNNNNNNNNNNNNNNNNNNNNNNNNNNNNNNNNNNNNNNNNNNNNNNNNNNNNNNNNNNNNNNNNNNNNNNNNNNNNNNNNNNNNNNNNNNNNNNNNNNNNNNNNNNNNNNNNNNNNNNNNNNNNNNNNNNNNNNNNNNNNNNNNNNNNNNNNNNNNNNNNNNNNNNNNNNNNNNNNNNNNNNNNNNNNNNNNNNNNNNNNNNNNNNNNNNNNNNNNNNNNNNNNNNNNNNNNNNNNNNNNNNNNNNNNNNNNNNNNNNNNNNNNNNNNNNNNNNNNNNNNNNNNNNNNNNNNNNNNNNNNNNNNNNNNNNNNNNNNNNNNNNNNNNNNNNNNNNNNNNNNNNNNNNNNNNNNNNNNNNNNNNNNNNNNNNNNNNNNNNNNNNNNNNNNNNNNNNNNNNNNNNNNNNNNNNNNNNNNNNNNNNNNNNNNNNNNNNNNNNNNNNNNNNNNNNNNNNNNNNNNNNNNNNNNNNNNNNNNNNNNNNNNNNNNNNNNNNNNNNNNNNNNNNNNNNNNNNNNNNNNNNNNNNNNNNNNNNNNNNNNNNNNNNNNNNNNNNNNNNNNNNNNNNNNNNNNNNNNNNNNNNNNNNNNNNNNNNNNNNNNNNNNNNNNNNNNNNNNNNNNNNNNNNNNNNNNNNNNNNNNNNNNNNNNNNNNNNNNNNNNNNNNNNNNNNNNNNNNNNNNNNNNNNNNNNNNNNNNNNNNNNNNNNNNNNNNNNNNNNNNNNNNNNNNNNNNNNNNNNNNNNNNNNNNNNNNNNNNNNNNNNNNNNNNNNNNNNNNNNNNNNNNNNNNNNNNNNNNNNNNNNNNNNNNNNNNNNNNNNNNNNNNNNNNNNNNNNNNNNNNNNNNNNNNNNNNNNNNNNNNNNNNNNNNNNNNNNNNNNNNNNNNNNNNNNNNNNNNNNNNNNNNNNNNNNNNNNNNNNNNNNNNNNNNNNNNNNNNNNNNNNNNNNNNNNNNNNNNNNNNNNNNNNNNNNNNNNNNNNNNNNNNNNNNNNNNNNNNNNNNNNNNNNNNNNNNNNNNNNNNNNNNNNNNNNNNNNNNNNNNNNNNNNNNNNNNNNNNNNNNNNNNNNNNNNNNNNNNNNNNNNNNNNNNNNNNNNNNNNNNNNNNNNNNNNNNNNNNNNNNNNNNNNNNNNNNNNNNNNNNNNNNNNNNNNNNNNNNNNNNNNNNNNNNNNNNNNNNNNNNNNNNNNNNNNNNNNNNNNNNNNNNNNNNNNNNNNNNNNNNNNNNNNNNNNNNNNNNNNNNNNNNNNNNNNNNNNNNNNNNNNNNNNNNNNNNNNNNNNNNNNNNNNNNNNNNNNNNNNNNNNNNNNNNNNNNNNNNNNNNNNNNNNNNNNNNNNNNNNNNNNNNNNNNNNNNNNNNNNNNNNNNNNNNNNNNNNNNNNNNNNNNNNNNNNNNNNNNNNNNNNNNNNNNNNNNNNNNNNNNNNNNNNNNNNNNNNNNNNNNNNNNNNNNNNNNNNNNNNNNNNNNNNNNNNNNNNNNNNNNNNNNNNNNNNNNNNNNNNNNNNNNNNNNNNNNNNNNNNNNNNNNNNNNNNNNNNNNNNNNNNNNNNNNNNNNNNNNNNNNNNNNNNNNNNNNNNNNNNNNNNNNNNNNNNNNNNNNNNNNNNNNNNNNNNNNNNNNNNNNNNNNNNNNNNNNNNNNNNNNNNNNNNNNNNNNNNNNNNNNNNNNNNNNNNNNNNNNNNNNNNNNNNNNNNNNNNNNNNNNNNNNNNNNNNNNNNNNNNNNNNNNNNNNNNNNNNNNNNNNNNNNNNNNNNNNNNNNNNNNNNNNNNNNNNNNNNNNNNNNNNNNNNNNNNNNNNNNNNNNNNNNNNNNNNNNNNNNNNNNNNNNNNNNNNNNNNNNNNNNNNNNNNNNNNNNNNNNNNNNNNNNNNNNNNNNNNNNNNNNNNNNNNNNNNNNNNNNNNNNNNNNNNNNNNNNNNNNNNNNNNNNNNNNNNNNNNNNNNNNNNNNNNNNNNNNNNNNNNNNNNNNNNNNNNNNNNNNNNNNNNNNNNNNNNNNNNNNNNNNNNNNNNNNNNNNNNNNNNNNNNNNNNNNNNNNNNNNNNNNNNNNNNNNNNNNNNNNNNNNNNNNNNNNNNNNNNNNNNNNNNNNNNNNNNNNNNNNNNNNNNNNNNNNNNNNNNNNNNNNNNNNNNNNNNNNNNNNNNNNNNNNNNNNNNNNNNNNNNNNNNNNNNNNNNNNNNNNNNNNNNNNNNNNNNNNNNNNNNNNNNNNNNNNNNNNNNNNNNNNNNNNNNNNNNNNNNNNNNNNNNNNNNNNNNNNNNNNNNNNNNNNNNNNNNNNNNNNNNNNNNNNNNNNNNNNNNNNNNNNNNNNNNNNNNNNNNNNNNNNNNNNNNNNNNNNNNNNNNNNNNNNNNNNNNNNNNNNNNNNNNNNNNNNNNNNNNNNNNNNNNNNNNNNNNNNNNNNNNNNNNNNNNNNNNNNNNNNNNNNNNNNNNNNNNNNNNNNNNNNNNNNNNNNNNNNNNNNNNNNNNNNNNNNNNNNNNNNNNNNNNNNNNNNNNNNNNNNNNNNNNNNNNNNNNNNNNNNNNNNNNNNNNNNNNNNNNNNNNNNNNNNNNNNNNNNNNNNNNNNNNNNNNNNNNNNNNNNNNNNNNNNNNNNNNNNNNNNNNNNNNNNNNNNNNNNNNNNNNNNNNNNNNNNNNNNNNNNNNNNNNNNNNNNNNNNNNNNNNNNNNNNNNNNNNNNNNNNNNNNNNNNNNNNNNNNNNNNNNNNNNNNNNNNNNNNNNNNNNNNNNNNNNNNNNNNNNNNNNNNNNNNNNNNNNNNNNNNNNNNNNNNNNNNNNNNNNNNNNNNNNNACAUACCUUUUCAUGUCAUGCAACCAAAUUGUAUAUUUUAUGUUCUAUCUAAUAUUCUAGAUAUGUUUCUUGAUUUGUUUUCCUUUUAGAAUAGGGACUUUGACUUGUAAAUUUUAUAAUAUGCAUUUUUUUCUUUAUACAAAGCAUAUAUAUUUGUUUCUUUCUUUUUAAGUGAGUCAAUUUAUUAUAAAUAUCAUAAUUUUGGCUAGAAAAAUAAUAAUAUAACAAAAAUUAGAUUAUAAUACAACAUUCAAAAAUGACUUACUUUAUAUUACAAUAAACAUAAAAUAAAAAUCUGGUUGUUUAACUUGCAUAAGAGAUCUUUCUUGUGUGACUCAUGAAUUUUGAUCACCAUGGAUGCAAAUUUAUUUGAGAGGUUCUAUAUAGUUUAUUGUUUUUUAAAAUUAUAUUUAUAUAUUUUUUUUUACUCAUUCGUCAUGUUGUUAUCUAGGCACGACACACCGGACAAGCGCCAGGACAAAUAGAACUUUUCAAGUUAAUGCAUUGGACUUCUCAAAAUGGUUGGAUAAACCAAGAAGCAGAGGCUUCUUAUGUAAGUUUUCCUUAUAGAAUCUUCAGCUUGCUUAUUUUUUUAUUUAAAUAUGAUUUUCAAUUUGUUUCUAACUUGUAGCUUAAGUAGGUCACUAUACAAAAUUGGAUUUUCACAUUAUGUAAUUUUUUUAUUUUCAUUUGACUGAGUUUAAAAAUGAUAGAUAAAAAUGAAUUAAAUUGGUCUUAUUAAAUUUUGUGAUUCUAUAUAUAGUAGGAAAAUUUUAUGAAAUUCUAUAGAAAUUCAUAUGAACCUUCCAAAAAUUUGCCAUAGUCAUAAAGAACAUGCUAUGAAACUUAAGCAAAUUGUUUUUUUCAUGAAAUUCUAUAGAAAUUUAUAUGAACCUUCCAAAAAUUUGCCAUAGUCAUAAAGAACAUGCUAUGAAAAAGUUUCAAUUUUUUUUUUCAUGAAAUUCUAUAGAAAUUUAUAUGAAUCUUCCAAAAAUUUGCCAUAAUCAUAAAGAACAUGCUAUGAAACUUAAGCAAAUUGUUAUAUAUAUAUUCUCUUUUUGCAAUAAAUUAUAGUUGAAUUAGCCAAGUUGCCUAUUGAAAAGAUUUUAUUUAAUUAGUUUGUGUUUUACAUUAUUUUACAUUUUUUUUUUUUUGUAUUUGUAGGAAAAAAUGUUAGAAUUGCAAAAGCAACCAGUGCCAGAAGGUGGUCAAGCCUUGAAAGAGGCUGAAAUAUGUGUUCAAGUGUUAGGGUCAAGAUCUGGAUAUAUCAAGGGCUUAGGUCAUGGCCCUCGACCACCCUCAUCCUCAUCGAAAUCUACACAUAAGUCACAUCGAGAGAUAGAAUUGGAGAAUGAGCUUAAAGCAACACGAGAGCUUUUACAAAGUCAAGAGACUCGAAUCCAGCACCAGCAGUCCCAGAUAGCUCAAUUAGCUAGUUUUGUUAGUGAAAUGCGCCAACACAUGCAUAUUCCAGGAUCAAACUCAAGAAGUUCAUCUCCUUCAGAUGAUACACCGCUUAUGGAUUCUUAGUCACACUUCAUGGAUGAUGAUUGACAUUUUCUCCAUUAACACUUGGUUUGGAGUUUUUUUGGACAUUAUCUUUCCUUGACAUGUAUAUAUGGUACUUUUGUUUACUGCAUUAUUUUUUUUGGAUGUUAUCACAUUUUGCAAAUGUGUUAUUUUUGUGGCCACAUUUUGCACAUGUGUUAGUUUUGUUAUCACAUUUUGCAUAUGUGUUAGUUUGCUUGCUACAUAUCAAUCUUUACUAUUUUUUAUUUUUAUUUUUUUAUGUUAUCACAUUCUGCACAUGUGUUUGUUUGCUACUUUUCUUUUACUUUUAGAACUUAUGACAUUUUACAAAUGUGGAUGUCAGUGCUUACUAUUUAUUUAUUUAUUUUGUAUAUGUGAAUAUACCAAAACUCUUUUGCAUUCAAUGGAAUAUUAUCAAUUAUUUAUUAAAGCUUUGUUGUCACAUAAUUUAUUUAUUCAUUAGGAGUUUUUAAUUAUCAAUUAUGUAAUAAAUUAAGUUAUAACAAAAUUUAAUUGUUUAAUUAAGUUUUAUAAUUUAAGUUUAAAUUUAAAUAUUGGAAUAUAUCAAUUGAAUAUAUUAAAAUAUGAUGACAAAAUUAUUAUAUACAUAUAGACAAAAGUUCAUAUGUUUAGAGCCAUUUAUUUAUUUUUUUGUUAAAAUAUGACCUGAACUUCCAACGGGGAAAUAAAGUUUUGUUUCAAAAUCCAUUUGGCAACAAAAUUAUAAUUUUGGUCAUUGUAUGUGUCUAAUUUGGCGACAAUUUAAUUGAUUAUCGAGAAUUUUUAGCAACAAAAUUUUGAACAUUUAACAACAAAUCUUUUCGUCAAAAAAAAUUAUUGGAGACAACAAAAAAAUUAUGUCUCUAUAAACUAUUAGAGGCGAAACAUUAAAUUUGUUGCAAAAACUUUUCGCGACGAGGAUAAGGCGACGUUCAUGAAACAAAAAAAAAUUUGUCGCAAAAAUGUUUUUGCGACAAUAUUAACUUUUUUGCGAUAAAAUAAUUGUGUCGCUAAUAAUCAUAUAUCUUGUAGUGCUUUUUGGUUUGUUUUACAAAUCAUACACAAUGAAUAUUCUUGAAAAAAUUCUAGAUGUAAAAUUUAAAAUCUAUUGUCAUUCAUAUAGAGAAAGAUAAGACCUUAAGCUUUAACAUGUGUCGUAAGACUUUAGAUGAAUAGGAAAAGAUCACUCACGGUUCCUAUAUAUGCUAGCAUUGUUAGUAGCUUAAAGUAUCCAAUGAUGUGUACAUGAACUAAUAUAUAUUAUAUAAUUAGGUUAGUAGCUUCCAAUUAGAUCUAAACCUUGCUUACGAAAAAACAAUGAACUGGACGAUUUCAUACCUCAAAGUCACCAUAGGCUAUAUAAUUUGCUAUUGAGGAUUGAAUUUGGACUUGAUUAGCUACAACAAUGAUAAUUGAGGUAGCAUCCUAAAUGAACCCAAAUCCACAUAUGGUUAUAAUUUUAUAUAUGCUCUAUGAUGUUAGCAUAUAUUGGUGAAAUAGAAAAAAAUCAUGUAUAAUAUUGUCUACCAUGCAUGGAGUUGGGAGUACAUUAGUUGUCGUCUAGGAAAGUGACUAGUUUAUGAUGUUCAUACAUAUUUUUCUCAAUAUUGCUUGUUCUUUUGAGCGUACUACUAUUUAUUGUGAUAGCAUGGAAACUUUAGCCUAUGUCAAAGACCCCCCCCCCCCAAGUAUCAUAGUUGAACCAAACACAUCAAUCUUAAAUAUUAGUUUAUAUGAGACAUGGUUACAUAGGAACAUAUUUCUACUUGAUGCAUGGUUAAAAAUCCCACCCUCACCCCUCCUGUUGACUAAGCUAAUAAGUAAAGAUGUUUAUUAGGGUCAAGUUGAGAGCAUUGGAUUAUGUAGAUCAUGAUUACAUAGGAGUUAAGUUGUGAGCAUUGGAUCAUGUAGAUUAUGAUUACAUAUUAUAUAUUUCAAUUAACCAAUAUAUUUACGAUUUAUUCAUUGUCCAAUCUUGUUUGAUGGUGGCAUUUAAUUAUUUGUUUUACUUUAUCGACAUGCACUUUCAUUACUUUGCACAACUGAAACAUAAUGAGUCCAAACCACUUAGAUAGUGUGUUAGGUCAUUGAUAUUUAUAAUACUCCUUUUUGUAUCCAAUAUGACUUACAUGUUAGUAGCGACCAAGUAUAGAUAGUCCUAUAGUCCACAUUUGUAAUGGAGUCAAUUGCCAAAUCUUGUUAAUGUAGUGCUUGAUUUAGUAAGGAUGUGCAAAACUUGAGUUCUUUGCUUGAUGCAAUUAAACUAAGAUUUGUACGAUAUAGAAGAUCUAAGGUACACUCAUAAUGAAGAUCUCCAUGUUAGCAUGUAUUUUCAUACUUUAUCUUCUUGGCAAUCAAACAAGAAUGAAUGAAUGAAUAUAUUCCUAGCUACUUCCUCAUCCUAUGCGUUAAUCUUAUAGGUCAAUAUAUAGUUAAACUUUUAUGCCCUUGUGAUUUUCAAUCAUAAGUUACAAGUAUGGUGUAGUUUGAAAUAUUUUUCUAGGGGGAUUAACCAUGUUUAACUCAAUGUGAAUAAAUGUGUUUAAGAUAUAACAAGAUGCCUUUUAGGGAUGAAUUACACUGGUUAAGAUGAAAUUUAGUUUAAUACUCUUACACCUUUCUUAUCAAUGUGUUCAAAAGUUUUACAAUCCAUUAGUCAAUAUAAACAGGGAUGACAAUGAUAUAGUUGAGAGAAAUGCAUAAUGUUAUUUUGCCUACUAUGCAUGAGUGGGAGACAAUGGAGUUUCUAUUUCAUGAGAUACUCUUAGUAGGACUUCAUCAACUAAGAACUUGAGAGUAAGUUGCAUACUUAUCAAUUAAGAUUCCUCAUGGGAGGAAAGUUUAGUUAAGAUUCCUCUUGUGAGAGAAGGUUCAUAUUUAGAUUUAGUAAGAAUCUGUAAGAGUUGUUUGUCUUUUUUCAAUUCCAAUUCUAGUCCUUUUGCAUGUUUUCAAUUUAGUUUGUGGCAGUUGUUAAAUACUUCUACUUUAGUUUUUAGCAAUUAUAAUUUUUUAAAGCUUGCUAUUUAGGUUUAGAUUUAUUAUAUGCUUAUUAGAUAUCUUAAUUCCUAUUGUAUUCUCCUUGGUUAAUAAUCUUCCAAUUUGAUUGUGGAGUUCAAAGAUUUUUACCAAAAUAUGGAUCAGGGUUUUCAAAGUUAGGAAAGGUAUUUAAUAGAAUUAAUUUUUGAAUAAGUUUGCAAGCUAAAUCUUUCAAUUGAACCUAAUGAGUUUACAUACUAAAUCUCUCAUUUUCAGCCUUGGUUGUUUCCACUCUUUGCAAUUUAAUUAGUUUUUCUUAAAUAUAUAUAUAUAUAUAAUUCAUUUUUUGUACCUAUAUACUCGAGUUUUUGAGUAAUUAUGAGUUGUAUUGUUAUAUUUAGUAGAAUUUGACAAACUAAUAAUGCUUACCUUUGAACAAUCGAGUCCAAUAGCCCAUUUGUGUGGAUUCAUAGCUAUCAACUUGAUUCUCCAUGCCUCCUCUAUUAGGUUGACCAAGAGAAUGGUUUAAUUUCACAGGAACACCUUAAGAAUAAAAAUGUCAAGAAAAGAGAAGGAAAAUUAUGCUUCGUCUAAUUUGACUGCAAGACUUUUAAAGGAAAAAAACAUAAUAAUAUAACAAUUAUUAUAAUGAAUAUAAUAAAAAGAAAAUUUGUGAUGUUCUUCCCAAUACUCAUAAAACCCCUUUCAAUGAAACUUUGUAAGCUAUACUAAUACAAAAUAAUGGUCCAUAUGGUAAAAGCUCAAUAAAUGAAUGUUUGAUAAAUUAAUAAUCUUACUUAUAAAACAAAAUCUUCUAGUCUUAACUCAGGCCAAUGUACUAAAUUAGUAAUCUUGCUAAAUACAUAAGAUAAAAAUAUUUUCAAAAAUCUUUAAGGGCUCAAGAAAUAUAAACUAAUAAUUGAUGAAGUAUAAACAAAAAUUCAUAGUAUAGCAAAUAGAACUUCAUAAUAUAGUAUUAAGUAAUUUUUUAUUACUUUUAUUUUUCUAAAUUCACUUCUUUUAGAAUUAUCACAUAUUUGAAAUAGCUUGCUCUUUUACAACAUUAAGUUUUGAUGCCACGUCUUUUUUGGGGAGUCUUUUUUUCUUUUAUAAUCAAUAAAUUUUUUUUUUCUUUAGUCUCUUAGGUUUCUAUGUAUCAACUUUUUACCACAUGUAUUAUUUUUAAAUUUAUAAGUCAUACAUGUACUAAUAAUGUACAGUAACAACAUAAUACUCUUCAUCAAUUAAUAAAUAUUCAUUUAUCUAUAAAUCAAUAACCUCGCUAAGAUCAUAAUUUUUCUUGGUCAUAAGAGUAUUAGUUUAUAAGAGUUUUUCUCUAUAUAGUUCCUUCAUUGUAGGAAUUUCUUUAGGUUAAUAUUACUAAAGUUGUAAUUUAAAAAAACAUAUAUAAUGGAAAUUAAGAGAAAUAUGAAAGCUAUAAAUUAGUGUUUUAUAUCAUUCUUUUUUCCUAUGAAUGCCAAAGCCAUUGUCAAAUAAAAAGUUUAAAUAAAGUAAUUAAUCAAGUAAUUAGUCGAAAGCAAAAUGGGUGACUUAAAACUAUUGCUUUGGUACAUGUUUGUUUGGGGUAUAGUAGAUCAUAAGAAAUAAAAUCCUCUAGCUAUGUUUAUUUGAUAGAAUAAAAUAGUGAGUGUGUGGUUGCUCUACAGGAGAAGACCACACGUUAGCCAAAGAAUAAGUAACUAGAAAGCUUACACAAGUGUUAAAUUAUCAAUUUCUCGCCUAAGCACAUUAAGGAGAACUAAAUGUUGAAUUAAACCAUACUCAUGCACCCAUACUAAGGCUCAUGCCUCCAUGUGGGGAGACCCUAAUUUCUCCCUUAAAGGGGAAGUUUAAAAGUGGCCACAUCCUCUAUGCCAUGUUAGUAUUCCAAAAACUUAGAAAGUUAACCUUUGAGCUGAUGCUUAUUUGUCUGGUAGUUUCCUCAUUCUUCUUACUAACUUGACCUUUGAAGGCUCUACAACCGUAAGGAGCCUAGAGUAUUCACUUUAGGUUUCGUAUGAUUGUAAGGUCCUAACCAUCCAUUGAAGUAAGAAAGUGAACUAAGAGUUGGAAAUGGUGAAGAUACAAAAAUUCAGCUCACCAAAAAAUCAUAGUAAAGCUACUAAAAAACACCUCACCCCCAGGCAAGGACCUUCAUUUGAGUACUCCUUGAGGUCCACCCAAAUCGAAGACCUAACGUUGAAGAAAUAAAGUCAACUAAACUUGGUUCCAUGCAUGAUAAGGUUGAAAAGGUUGCAUAAAAACCUACAGAAAGCUUCCCUCUUUAUAAGAAUAACCUGAACCUACAAGGGAAGAAAACCUAUAAAAGGAAAUCAUAAGCAACAAAGAAAAAAAAUUCCCUCCCUCAUUUGAAAAAGAUUUCUUUGAAUGUAGAAACCUAUUUUUUUGUAUCAAGAAACCUUCCUUUGUAUCCAAAAAUUGGUGGAAUAAAAAUUUUCGAUUAUCUAUGAAGAGUUUUAGCUUCUUCAUAUGGGAAUGCAUUAAAAUUCUUGAAGACAUUGUUUAGAUCUAUAGCAACAAUUGGGCAAUAGAAGACUAUGCAAUAGAGUCUUGGUAGGAAAAGCAAUCAUGACAGAAAUGAAGUGGAGCAAUGAGUGAGAGCAAACCCUUCAAUAGAUGGAGGAGCUCACUAAAAGAAGUGACUAACUCAUUCAAGAAAAUGUUUCCUUCAGGGUAAGGAUAGACAAAUACCAAUGUGAUUUUGACCAACAGCUCUCAUUGGCAAACACCAAUAAGAUGCAAAUUAAUGAAUAAUAGUUAUCGAAGCAGUUAGACCAACAUAUAGAUUAAAUUGGGAGAGAAAUGUGGGAGAAACCUUAAUUAAACUAACCAAACAGACCACUUUGCCAAAGGCCCCAAUGCUCUAAGGGCUUCUUGCCACCAGAGCUACCACAAAAUGCAUAAUCUUGGUGAAUAAGGUGAUUGAGCCCAAGUCCCUUUAGGAGGAGAAGGAGGCCAUAUGAGGUGAUUGAGCCCAAGUCCCUUUAGGAGGAGAAGGGGGCCAUAUGAGAGUUUUACCUCCCUAAGUUCAAUUUCUUUCAAUGAAACUAAAGACACACUAGACUACUCAUGCAUUUCUAAGCAUAUGAUGAUCUUAGAGAAGGGAAAUGGUCGACUUUUAUGUAAAAUCUUCUCCUCCAUCCUCCAAGGACUAACUUUGUUUUGUCUUUAUUAACUGACCUUAGAGUUUGUUCUUGAUAUUAAGACCCUAAGGUUGAAGUCUACCUCUUAGUACAUUCACUUAAAAAGACAAAAGAAAAGCCUCAAAUAACCCAAGGUAGUUAUAGCUACCAUCCAUGGUAGAUCAUCUACUAGAUUUGAGCAACUAGGUAGGGUAUCAAGAUGUUAUAGAAGCAUAUGGCAAUUGAAGCAAAAUUCCUCACAUCCUUGCAUGAAGCAACUACCACUUGCCCACAUGUCAUAUGUUUCUCUAAUAAAGACUUAAGAGGAGUCCAAAUCCUACUCAAGAUCCAUUGGUUAUUACUUUAAGGAUUAUUGACUACAACAUGCACCUAUUCUUAGUUGACAUAACAAGUUUAGUUAACUUGCUAAAUAUAUUAACCCAUAUAUGAACAAAUGAAUAUGGACGAAGGAAAACUAGUGUCAAGUCUUCGGUCAUUGGUGGGACUAGACAAAGUCCUAUGUGGCUCAAUUGGGGAAGUUGCUCUAAUGGUUCCAAUUGGUUGUUUCCAUAUAAUGACACAAUUCUUUGUUAUGGAUAUCCUUUUCCCGAUAAUGCUAUUAUGGGAUGACCAUGGAUAUACAACCUAAGAGGAACACUAUUCACAUACCAUUACAUCCUUAAAUUCCUAAUACUAUAAGGAAUAUGGGAAAUAUAUCGGGACUAGGCGGAAGCAUGAGUAUACUACACCAUAGCCCUUAAAGUAGUCAACAAGUGCAUCAAGUGGGACCCUUAGGAAGUUCAUAAAUCAAAAGUCAAAUACAAAUUAGUAGGUGACCCAAGAAGGCAAUUAGAGAACCUAGGAAGUCAUUAUUCUAGAGCCCCUCAACCUAGGAGGUUCCUUCUAGCCCAUGCAAAAAAAAAUUGGUUUAAGAUGGCUACUAGAAAAGAACACAUCUUUGCUAGGAAAUUAUAGGACAUCAUGGGCAUCGAUCCCCAAGUUACAUGUCAUCGACUCAACAUAAACCCUAGUGGUUAGGUCCUUAAAGACAUUAGAUUGUGAAUGAAAAGGUAUCUAGGCUCUUAGAUGCUAGAUUUGGUCAUCUAGGUCUUCUAACAACAAAUAGAAGUCAGUAUGCUAGUUUACAUUAAUAACAUGUUAGUAACAAGUAAGAAGAGGAAUGAGUACUUGAUCGACCUCCUAAGAACAUUUCAAACUCUUCGAAAAUACUAAAUGAAGCUAAAUUAGUGAAGUGCACCUUUAAUGUAGGGUGUGGAAGUACUUGGUUACAUACAAAGGAAUAAAAGCUAACCCAUACCAAAUAAAAUCAACUUUGGAGAUACCAAUGACCAAAAGGGCUAGAAAAGUCCAACAGUUCACUAACAAGAUUGGUUCUUGAAAUAGAUUUAUAUAUUGAACAACAAAUAUAUGUCAUCCUUUCUUUGACAUUAGCAAGAAGGGAAAAUGGACUAAAGGAACCAAAAAAUGCAACUAAGCUUAUGAAUCACUAAAGCAUUACAUCAUGCUAACCCCCAUUCUGGAUAAACCCUAGGAUAAGGAGGUCUUACAAGGUCUCAAUAGCAGUAGUAAGUGGAGUGUUAUCUCAAAAAAAAUGAAAAGAGGAGCAACCAAUAUACUAUGUUUAAAAGACUCUCUUAGAUGUGGAAACCUGAGAUAUAUAUAUAAAUAUUGAAAAACUGGUGCUUGCCUUUUAGAUCGCCACAUUGAAGCUUCAAUGUUACUUCCAAGCGCAUGUUAUUAAGGUAAGGACUAAGCGAUAAGAACUCAAACUUAAUACUUUAAUGGCUUUAAAGAGCCCACUUUAGUGUGUUUGAGGUACUAAAAAAUUAACCGAAUGUUUUGUUUUUUUAUAAUACCUUAGAAAAUUAUGUUUGAUGCAUUCUACGACCAUUCUACAUGCUUUAAGGUGUUUUCUUGUUAGGAUAGAAUCCUUAAAAGCAUGACAUGAUGUAAUAAAUUUGGAAUUCAUUAUUUAUUUAAUGAUGUUCUAGUUUCACAUUUAUUUAUCCUUAUUCCAUGAAUUGUUCUUUAUGAGCAUUCUUGCCUGCAUCUUUUGCAUUGUACGUGACUUAGGUGCAUUAGGAGUUGCACAAAAGAUUUAAGUCAUGGGUUUCUUGCAAAUAGAUUAUUUUUUCACAGUCAGCUCAUGAGCCUAGGCAAACCAUUAGAGGUUUUAGUGCACCACCUCCUAAUUUGAGGGAUGGUUAGUCUUGGCUAUGGGAUGAGUUUCCCAUGAUAAGUGCACUAGUGUGUAUGAUUGCACGUUAGAUGGGACCUAUGGUGAGUUAUGACUGAAGCCUAUGAAGUAGUCAUGACUCCACCAAGCUGCUUCAUUGUAUUAUCUCUCAACCUUGAGAGAAUAUUAAGUUUGUGCUGAAGUUAAUAGUGGCUUUGACUUAUAGGUGAGGUCAUAAGCGGAUCAUAUAUUCCCUAUGGAUUGGGUCAAUGUUGAUGGAAGUCGGUAGCAAUAGGUAUUCUUAAUAAAGGCACCAUGAUAUCUCUUAGGAUUGAGACAAUGUGUCCCCUUGGGUGAUCCUAAGGAGGUGUGUUCAUGGAAACUACGGCUAUAAUAGUUCCUUAAGUGGAAUUUGACAUAGACUCUUUAAGAUCUAAGCUAUGUUAAUUGAACACACAAUAGGAAGAUCUGUAGCUCAAGGAUGGUAGAAGUAGUCUUGAAAGGCUGAUAGCUUUCACCUUGUUAGACUACGGACACCAAUUCAUGGGGAGACUAAACACAAUGGAUAGUAGGUCACGAACCCGAGCACUUAGUGUCUUUGUUGUUAUUUACAUAGGAUACCGGAGUUUAGUUGAUUCUCUAUAGUGCAAUGUUGAAUCAACUUUAAAAUUGGACUAUGAGGGAGUCAGUAUUCCUAUAAGUCCCUGUGGUCCCCACUAUGAGCUUAUAUACCUUGUUGGCAUGGGUAAUGAGGGUUAGAUUGACUCUAGGUUCACUUUUGUGGAUAAGGGUAUUUUGGUAAUUAUGCAAGGUUAUAUAGGAGUAAGUGAACAAGGCCUUUGGAUUAGGCUAAUUGAUUAAUUAGUAGGUCCUAUUGGGUUAAUUAAUCAAUUAGAACCCAUUUUGGGCUAGAUUAAGUGACCUAAGCCCAUGUGGGUUCAAGUCACUUAAGCCCACUUAGAAACCCUAUAAAUACCCCUUAGGGGUUAGGGUUUCCAUAACUUUUGUCUUCCAUCAUCCAAAGAGAUAGAGAGCCAUAGCCUCCACCCUCUUUUCCUCAUCAUCGAAAGUGUGCCAAGAUCAAGGUUUGAGUCAUCGGGCGGAAGACUUCGGGUUUAUGAGACUUCUGGGAUUUCGAUCUUCACCAUGUGGAUGUGAUUCGGGAACACCUGAAUCUAAUGUAUAGUUUUUGUUAGCACUUUUUGAAUCUUUUUAAAGUAUAAAGAUGUUAUUUUUCCAUUGUGCAUAGGAUUUAGAAAAAACCUAAGAUAGUUAUGCAUGUUCCUAACUUGAUUUAAACUUGGGAAAAGAAGAAAGAUUAAGGUUUUUCCCAUCAUUUUUGGUGCAAUAGAACCUUGUUAGGAACUCAUAGAGACAAAAAUGCCCAAGUAAGGAGGAAACAUAGAUUGCACACCUAAAAGGUGUGCAAGACUCAAUCAUGCACUUCUUUCUUUGUGUAGAGCCUCAUAGUGCACCUCCCAUGUAUACCUUAAAGACCAAACACACAAGACCUCUCUAAUGCUUUGGACCAAAUUUUACACCCUAUUCAAGCAACUCAAUCUGCAAACCUCUUAAGUGCUCUAAGCCAAGAUGUUGUGGACCCCUUCACUCGAGUCAAUAGGAUGUGUAGUAGUGCAACCCCUUGAUGUCAUCUAAAUUACAAACCAUUUUUACCUCUACAAUAGCUAAGUCUUAAUAAUUCUUCUAAUGAUUGGCUCACCCACCAAAGUAGUAUGUUGUUCAUACCUCAAAGUCUUCAAUUGUACUACCAAAACGUACCCAGACCAAAUUACAUAGAGAAAAAGGUGCAACUACAGACCAUAAGCUAACACAUCAAGAAUGAUGGUGGGUUGAUUGCAAUGGCAAAGGACUUGACCCUUAGUAUAAGAAGAGACAAGUCAAGAUGGAGUGGUGUCAGAGUAGUUGGAAUGACCAAGGAGGGGAGGGGGGACGUUUUUUUUGUCUAUAAAUGGAGGAUUGUGAAUAUACAAGUGGAAGCAAAUUAUAGAAAGUGAAAUUACAGAUAAGUUUUUUCUUCUUGAAGGAACAGAAGUAGGAAUAAGAGUAACUCAAUGUAAUUUUAGUUUUUAGUUUUUCAUUGUAAUAUUUUCUUUUUAUUAUAAACUUUCCCUAAUUUCUAAUUUAAUGAAUUUUCUAGUCUUUUUAGUUAAUCUUAUAUUUCAGUUUUUCAAUUUCAACUUACAAAUUUGCAUUUUUAGUUCUUUACUUAAUUUUUAACAUGCUUAGAUAACCUUUAACACUCUAAGGGGUGAGAAGAGCUCAAGUCUCCCAUAUCUUAGUUUAGUUGUCUAUUGGUUUAUCUGUGCAUUAGUUACAAACAAUAUGAUCCCUAUCAGUAGUUAUAAUGACCAAAAUAAGUAACCAUGGGGAAAAAAGUCUAUGUUGCAUUGGUUGUGAGUGUUGUAAGUCAAGCAACCUUGGAAGCAUACUUGGGCAUUGUUUUAAUGAUUCUUUCAACUAAGGAUAGGAAUAUUGACAUGAAAAGAAUCUUAUCUAAAUCAUUUGGUUGUAAGGAUAUAAAAAAAAAUUAAAAAAUAAAAAGCAACUAGAGAUAGAUGAACCUUAUUAAGGUGGUUCUUGUUCAUUUGAAGCAGGAAACCUUUUUGGUAUAAAUCCUUGCUUUGACCCUAAAUCUGAAAGCAUAAGUUCAAAGCCUUGUUGGUGAGUUGUAUCUAAAAGUGGUGAUCCUAGUGAAUCUCUAGGUUUGAGGCUUUCUUUCCUUUAAUUUUCUAUCUUUUAAACUUUGUGUGUGUAUGUCUUUUUUAUUUAUAAAAUCAUUUUUCUAAUCUUUUAGCGGACAUUCACACUCCUAAAGCUGUUACCUUAGUUGCUACCAAUUUAAAGUUCCUUGUGGAGGCAACCUAACAACUAUACAACUAUUAAUUUUUUUUUUGUUUUUUUUUUGUUUUUUGGUUAAGGAGUUGAGAGUUUCAAUGAAUGAUCUAGUUUAAUUUCUCUUUGUAAAACUUAACUGUUAAAUAUAUUUCCAAGUUUUGAUAAAAAGUAAUGAAUUAGAGAAUGACAAACAAAAAUUAGUAUCGUCACUAGGGAACUUUCAACAUUGAUGACUCUAAAGGUACGUAUUUUUGUGUAUAUGCUUGUUGUUUUAGAAGCUUAACAAGUAUAUUUCACCCAUUACCCACCUAUCUUUUAGUUGGAUUUUUUUUCUUUUUUUACUUAAUUUGUUUUCUUUGGAUUUUCUUUUUCUGCUCAAUUUUCAUUUUUAGUUGUUAAAUCCAACAUUUCAAACAUUUUCUUUAAAGUGAUAUGAUGUAUUAGGGAAAUAAUUUUAAAGGAAGGGUACUAAGAGUGUGUUUGGGAGUGAUUCUACGAAGCGUUUCUAACAUUUCUAACACUUGAGUGAUAAAAAUUUUCAAGUAUUAUGAAUAUUAAAAGUGUUUCCUAGAAUCACUACCAAAUGAGUUCUAAGUAAUCAACUAGAAGAAACAAUUUUAGAGGAAGGACACUAAGUAAUCAACCAAAAAAAAAUGAUUUUAGAGGAAGGACACUAAGUAAUCAACCAACCCCUAGUUAUCCUUUUCCUCAACACACCAGACCAUCACUAUCUAAUAUCUAUUUUCCAAAUUCAACUAUUGGUAGUACUAAUAAAAGUGUGAUGAAUGGGGUUUUUAACCCCAAUAACUAGCCACCUAGGACCAUGAGGGAUUAUGUACAGCCUAGUCGGGUCAAUGCUCCUUCGUGCUUGAUAUUUCUUUUUGACACUUCUCAAAUAAACAUUGAUCUUGAAAUGAUCCAAUUGCUAUCUCUAUUUUGUGGAAGGGAGGAUGAAAAUCCUUUUUCUUAUUUAAAAGAAUUUGAAGAGGUAUGGUCUAUUUUGGCAGAGCCUUCGUGAAAUCUAGAUCAUUCAAAACUCAAGGUUUUCUUUUUUCAUUAAAGAAAGAGGAUAACCAUUGGUGGUAUAGCAUGUGACUAUAGUAUAAGUUCUUAGGCUGCUAUAUAAAAUAUUUUUUUCACAAAUUUAUUUUGGUAUAUAAAAUUGUUUCCUUUGAAAGACAAAUUAAAUUUUUUUGUUUUAUAGAGAAUGAGACUUUUCAUCAUUGUUAUGAUAAAUUUAAAGUUUUGUUGUUUAACUUCCUUACCAUAGUUUUGAAAACUCAAGGAUUGCUUCUUCUUUUUAAAGGGGACCAUCCCCCUAAAUGAAAUAAUUUGUUGAAAACAUGACUGGUGGGUACUUUAUACAGGAGGAACCAAAAGAAGCACUUAAGCAUUUAAAAUUGCUUGCUGAAAAAUCAAGGGUUUGGGACCCCUUAGUCCUCAAGUGCAUCUUCUAGAACGUGAAAGCCAACCCCAACAACAUAUUAUCUCUCAUCUCAUCUCUCUAUUUAUCAUUUCCCCUUAGAACAAGAGUUUUGACGAAGAUGAUUUUUGGAUGCUGUAAGAGGACGAAGCCACUGAGGUCAAGGAAAAGGAAGUUGUGUACAUAGCAGCUGAAAAGAAUUUGUUGAAAAAGAAUCAGUUGAAGAAGAGAACUUCCAACAGGUUGCAAAUAAGGUUAUAAGCUGCAUUUUUUCUUCUUUUCACAAAAAAAAAAAAAAAAAAAAAAAAAAACAAAAACAAAAACAAAAAAAAAAAAAACAAAAAAACAAAAAAAGAAACCCUUAAAGAGCAAGAAACAGAGGAGGAAUGGAGCAAUGUAUUGCAUGAUCACACCAACUUUAUUUGUCUCUCAAUUCCCUUCUCUUUGCAACCCAAAAAUGUUGAUCUUCAAGGUAUCAUCAGAGGGCUUCUCAAUAUCGAUCUCUUCUAAUGAAAAAAUUUUCUUGACUAGAGGGGAGGGCAUCCAAAAAAUUUUAGGAAACAAUGAAGAAAAAUUUAUCAAAAUGGAUGCUUCCAAUCUACCUGUGGGAAGCAAAGAAAAAGUGAAGAACCAUUGGCUAGCUAGAAGUUAGCCAAAAACUUGUAAAUAGCUUUCAUUUUUUAUUUUCUUUGUUAUUUUUGUUUUUAUUGCUUUGGCCAAUUUAGUAUGUAGGAGCACCAUCAUUGUGAAGCCUAUAAUAUUAUGUUCUCAGUCCACUCAAUACAUUUGGGUAACCUUUAUCAUCUCAUAAGAACUCAAGUAUAAAUUUCUCUAUACUCUAUUGGUUUUAUCAUGCUUCAGAGUAGGUGUAAAUUGUUAACAACAGGAAGGUGCACAAAGUGUAGGACAUAUAGGAAUUGCGCACUUUUGAGGUUCGCUAACCCAACUUGUAUGAUGACUUAAAUUGCAUAUCUGUAGAGCAUAACUCAAAUUGUUCACUUUGAAAGCAUGACUGAAAUUCCACACCCAAAGAGAAUAAUUUAAACGGUGCAUCCAAAGGAACCAUUUAUAUUGCCCAGCUUAAAUUACACACCAUAAGUGCGCAAUCAUUUCUCAUGGGAUGCCUACUUAUUCUUUUGUAUUAUUGUGCAAGCACGCCAUCCAUAAUAAAAAUCUUUAUUCUCUUAUGUAAACUUCUUGGAAGAAAAAUGUCUUCCCAAAUAAAACCAUAAUUGCUUGGAGACUUUUGUCCACCCCACCAUCAUAUAUAUCAAUUGAGGUGUGGGUAGGUAACCGAGAAGUCUUCUAAGUUUUAUAUAAAAGAAGUAAUUUUCACUACCUUUUGCAUGCACUCAAACAAGAACACAUACAAUAACGCAACAUGAAAACUCCAAAGAAUGGUAAAACCAAAACACUGAGCCUAAAUAAGAUAAGGAAGUGAGA
rnacentral:lncRNA from 1 species